rnacentral:lncRNA from 1 species
GGGAUGGUAAAUAUAGCUCACCAUGAAACCCCACCAUUAGUGCUCUGCGCAGAAGUUCGAAUCCAGGCGAAUUUGAGAAAGGAUAUGGAGGUUCAUCAUCUCUGGUGACGCUUAAUAAAUAUAAAGUCAGCUCUUUAUGACCAUACCUAACAGCGCUGUGAAGAGGCGCAAAAUUGUCGCGUUGGCAGAUAUUGGGCAAGCUUGGGUUUUUGUUCACUAACAACUUGACUGCUUUUAUAUUGCCAGCCCUUGCAGCGUUGAAAAGGGCAGUGGCGCCAUCAGAAUCCCGCAGAGCCAGUGCCUCACUUGGCAUAAACUCAACCAACUUCUCCACGAAACCCAUUCUGGCCUCUCCUAACUCAACUGCUAUGUGAAGCAUUCGGGAAUCAUCUGUUCCGAUCGGGGCAGAGAAUGAUCGUGGAUCAUCCUUCAAUAAUUUUGGAGCACUUUCCCAGUCACCAUUGAGCACAGCUUUGUACAGUUCCAAGUAAUAGAAUUCUGCAGUCACAAAACCAAAAGAUGUAUAGGUCAGCCUAGAUUUCCCUGAUAUCUAUAUUACUUCAACGUUCACAAAAUCCUAAUACUAAAAUUAUUUUUUAAAAAAUAAAUCAUUUAAGUUAUGUUUGGUUCUUAGAAAAUUUGACAAAUAAUACAAAGAAAAAUUUAAAUAAUUUAAAAUUUAAUAAAUUUAUAACUAAUUUUAAUUACAUUUGAUUUUCUUAAAUAUUUUUUUUUCGAUAAAACCAAAUACGGGAAAAUCAUUUUCCUUGAUAUCUUUUCUUUGCUAAUUAUUUUCUUAGACUUCUUUGUUUACCUCUAAUCAACAUCUUUCUAUCUUUCAAUAAUAGUUUGAACCUCCAAUAAACUACAUGAAUUAAAAUUUAAUUUAGUUUCAUUUUUUUUUAACAGCAGGUUGUAAAACACUUCUACUUGUAUACUAAUUAUGCCCAAAAGUUGCAGGAGGACCUCAAACGGAAAUGGACAUGAACAUGGUUUUUAGCAUCUUACCGGAGCUGCUAAUCCUUUGCAAAGAUGAAGGGGAAGAGACUGGAGCAUAUUCAUCAGCAAUGUCGAUUACCAUUGUUUGGGCUGUCAUCGAUUACCGAGAUGGAAAUGAAGAGAAGUCAUUGCAGUAAACUCCUCACCAUGCUCAGCAAUGUCGAUGUCACUGUUUUUAGGACUGUUUGCGCUGUUGUCAUUUCUAAGACGUAGUGAAGAAGAAGAAGCCUUUACAACAAAUUCCUUAUCGUGCAUAUAGUCAUUGCCAACUAUAUGGAAGAUUAUAUUUAACUGCAGCCCUUUUUCCCAGAGUCUUCAAAAGAUACAGGAAAUGGGCCAGGAACCAUUGAAGCAUAAGAGGUGCAAUGAUAGAGUCUUCCAAGUCAACUUUAUUUAGUUGAGUAGAUAGCGUUGAAAAGUUUUGAUAAUUUUUAUUGCGAAAAAACGAUGUUUUAUAUACUUUUAUUUCUAUCAUACUUUAUUAUUGUUUAUAAGAUAACGAAAUAUUCAAAUAUGAUAAACAAUAGUAAACAUAUAUCAAAUAUAAAAAAUUUCUCACAAGAGAUGCAAUUAAUAUUUUUUUUCUUCAAUAAUGUGUAUAAUAUAUACCAUGUGAUGUAUUAUUUCUAUUUUAAGUUUUGUUUGGAUGUAUUUUUUAUUUUUUUAUAUAUAAAAAAUGAAUUAUAUUUUAAAAUUUAUAUGUGAUAUAAAAAGGUUAUUAUUUUUUAGUAUUUGAUAUAAUACAUUUAUAUAUUUACUAAAUUAUGACAAUAAAUGAAAAUAAAGUGGAGCGGACGAUGUAGGUUAAGGAUUAAUGUCUUUCACAUUAUAACAUCUUUCACAUUUAAUCCUUUCUGAUGUGAAUGCAGUACAGCAAAAGAGAAAGUACCAUUAACUUGAAUGCGAGAAGGGUGAUUGAUCUAUCAAUCUGUACGUGUCCUUCUUGAAAGGGACCAGAUUCUAUGGGGUAGCUUAAGGAUUAAUGUGGGUGCCUGUAGCAUGAAAGUGGAAGGAAUUAAUCCUGUGCACCACACAUUGCUAUGAUCGUUUGCAAUAACCAAUUAUAUAAAAUCUAUUGAAAUAUUUUAUAUAAUUAACUUUUUGGAAUUUUUUUAUCAAGUUGUAAAAUAAAGAAAAUUUAGGAAAAAAUAUUUUUGUAAAAUGAUAAAAUUUUACAAAAAUGACAUUUUUUUUGUAAAAUGUAGAAAAGGAUACAAGGCUAUGAAUUCAUAAUUGUAUGAUAACCUUUUAGUAUUUCAAUCUUUGAAUUUUUUUGGAGAUUAUUUCCAUAAAUUCCACAUUCCAAAAACAAUGAUAAUCUUUACACAAUAUUAUUGUCAUUUAAAGUGGGAAAAAAUAUAAAAAUAAAAUAAAAUUUUCAAAAAAUUUAGAGAUUGCAAAAAAUACGAGGAUAUGAAGAAUGUGAGGAUCGUCAUAUUUUUCAUACCCUCCUCACAUUCUUCAUACCCUUACCCAUUUGAAUAUUUUAAUCUUUUAAUUUUUUUUUCAAAUAGUAUUUACUUCAAUUUCAAGUGUAAUUAGUGUUUUUACACAAUACCAUUGUCAAAUGAAGUAAAAAAAAAAAAAAAUCAAAAUUAAAAUUUUCAAAAAAUUUAAAGGGUACAAAAAUGCGAAGAGGGUACGAAGAAUGUGAAGAGCCUCACUUUUCUCGUACCCUCAUCACAUUCUCCAUACCUAUUAUAAUUUAUAAAUUUUAAAAAAAAUAUUUUUCAAUUUUUUUAACAUUAUUUGCAUCAAUUUCAAGUGUAAUUAAUAUUUUUACCCAAUAUUAUUGUAAAGUGAUGUGAAGAAAAAUUUAAAAUUAAAUAAUUAAAUAAUUUUAGAGGGUACAAAAAAAUAUGAAAAUAGUAUGAUGAAUGUGACGAGGGUACGAGAAAUGUGAGGAUACAAGAAAUUUAAAAUAAAAAAUAAAAAUCUCAUACCCUCCUCACAUUCUUCGUACCCCUACAAAUUUUUAAUAUUUUAAUCUUUUAAAUUUUUUGAACAUUAUUUGCUUCAAUUUCAAGUGUAAUUAGUCUUUUUACAAUAUAUUAUUGUCAAGUAAAUUAAAUUUAGAGGGUACAACAAAUAUGAGGAGUGUGCGAGAAAUGUGAAGAGGGUAUGAGAAAUAUAAGGGUACAAGAAAUAAAUAAUAAUAAUAAUUCUCGUACCCUCUUCACAUUCUUGUACUCUCCUCACAUUCUUUGUAUUUUCACCAAUUUUUGAAUAUUUUAAAUUUUUUUCGAAUAUUAUUUGCUUAAGUUUCAACAAAAUUUUCGUACCCCACCAAUUUUGUAAUAUUUUAAUAUAUAUAUAUAUAUAUAUAUAUAUAUAUAUAUAUAUAUAUAUUAACAUUAUUUGUUUCAAUUUCAAGUGUAUUUAGUCUUUUUACACAAUAUUAUUGUCAAGUGAAGUGAAAAAAAAACAUAAAGUUAAAAUUUUCAAAAAAAUUAAAGGAUACAAAAAAUGUGAGAAGGGUAUAAAGAAUAUGAAGAGGGUGCAUGAAAUGUGAGGGUAUAAGAAAUAAAAAAACAAAAUACUCAUCCCCUCUUCACAUUUCUUGUACCUUCCUCACAUUCUUUGUACCUUCACCAACUUUUGAAUAUUUUAAUCUUUUAAUUUUAACUCAUCUACCCUUACAAAUCGUGUCUUUAAGGAAUAUGAGCUUAGAGCAGGAACCAUUGGGAUCCAUAGGAGUACUGGCUCCCUUAGAAUCAAAUUUUGAAAUUGAUUCAACAUCCCACUAUAGAGAGUCAGCUGCACUUUAGUACCCUAUGUACAUUACAAUAAGACACCAAGUACUUGGGUUUAUGAUCUACUAUCUAUUGCAUGCAAACUCCCCAUGAACUUGUGUCCGUAAUUGAUUACUACCAAAAAGUACUAUUUUGUAGAUCUAAUUAUAAUGGUUUUAAGCACCUUUAAGUAGUAAUCAUAUUCAUUUAACCCAAUUAAUUCAUUAAGGUCCUUAGUAAUUGGUUUUAACCAUUUUGUGGCAAGUUUACAUGUUUUUAUUAGCUUGUGAACCAAUUCAAGCAUGCCAAUUGAUGGAGGAGCUAUUUGGGUGAGUUAAGCAAGGAUUUUGGACAAUUACAGGCUUGAAUUUCAAGUGGAAACACGAGCACAAGCAAUGGAGAAGAGGAAAACAGAGUGAAGAAAACAGCUGCAGUCUUCUUUCGCACUUUUGAAGCACUUCCCGAAGUCCAUUUUUUGCAUGCUAUAUACCAUUUGAAAUCUUAGAAAGUCAAGAAUCCAACGCUUCAAACCGUGUAUGAUUUGGAGUUGAAAUGAGGAAGAUAUGGCCUUUGGAAGGCAACUGUAUCAUGUCAAAUGACCAAUUUCGCAAGGUGAAUUUCACAUUGCGAAAAUUUCACAAGGAGAUUUUCUUCAUGGUGCGAAAUUUUGCCACUUCGCACCAUGAAGAAACACCUUGCGAAAUUUCGCAAGGUGGAUUUAGGCACAUUGCAAAAUUCCUUUGAAUCCCCUGUUUUGAGACGUUGUUGAUGUUAUUCCACUGCCGGUUCUCCAAGAUAUUUUGCUUGAUUUUUAGCUUUGUAAAUACCUAUUUUACCCUUGUAAUCAACCAAUGAAUAGGUUGCUUUUGUAAUAGCUCUUGUAAUUUAGCUUGUUAUUGUCUUUAAAUAGAGGUGAAGAGCCUCAGAUCAUCAAAUCUUGUAACCUGUAACUUUAUAAGUUAUAAGAGCACUUUUGUUCAUACGCUUCUUUUCUCUUUUCUUUCUCAUUUUCUUAGUAGCCAAACAUCCUUGGGGGAUGAAAUCCCCAAGGAUGAGAGGCUUAAACCUUUUAGUUUCUUGAAGUAAUGGAUGCCAUGUGAAGCUCCCGUGUCAGGAUGGAGAUUUCCAAGCCAUGAAUGUAAGUAGCUGAGCGUCAUAAAUGUUUUCAUUCAAAGUAAAGCUUUUAAUCCCUCUGACUUGCUUUGAAUGGCCAAUACUUGAUAAUCUUUUGGUCUCAAUGGAUUCUUAUUGUUAGAUCCACUGACGUUCAUUAGUUAUCUCCUACGAGCCAUUGUAUUGCAAGUCGAGGAGAUGCCCUAUAUCAUUAAAAGGGCAUUUAUGAGGUUCAACUACCCUUUUUGUAAGUUUUCAAGGACUAAAACUCAGUUGUUAAACUCAUACCGGUUCGGGAAGUAAGCAUCACCUUAGUUGCUUUCCCAACUCGAGGUGAAAAGUCCCAAAAUCUCCAUUUUUUCACAGUGAGUUAAGCAUGGCUAUCCAAAGCUUUGAGAAACUUCUUUUUCCAUCUUUUAACCUAUUUUCAUGUUAGUUUAGUUUACACACCUUCAUCUUUUUAUGUUUUCAUCUUAACCUAAUUUUUAUUAAGAAAAGUUCACUCCAUCCUCCGAACUUCACCAGUUAAAGUAAAAACUCUUCCCAGUGUUCGAUCCUAGAGCCACUAUGCUAUAGUAGCUUUGCUACUUUAGUGUAAGGACCUUAGGUAUAAAUUUUGUUGAUACCCUUACAUGCCAAGCUACCAAGAGUCGGGUUAUCAGUAAUCUAAUAAGGUGGUGUUGUCACCUAUCAAGAUUACCCCUCAAAUCCUUUAGUUAUAGAUCAUACUUAUUACGUGAUUAAAUGACAUACUUUACCUCUAAUGAGCAUAUGUCAAAUUCCACUAAAGGAAUUAUUCCAUGAUCACAUGUCCUUUGGAUCACCCAAGGGGACAUAUCGUCUCAAUCCCAUGAGAUAUCAUGGUGCCUCUAUUGAGAAUACCUAUUGUCAUUAGCCUCCAUCAACAGUGACCCAAUUCAUAGGGAUACAUGGCCACUUUAGGGUUUCACUCAUAGCUUAAAGUCUUCUAUUAACUUUGGCAUAGACUCAAUAUCCUCUAAGGUUGAGAGUCUAUACAGUAUACUAGUUUGGUGAAUCAUAACAAUUGAUAGCCUUGUGUCAUGAUUCACCGUAGGUUUUGUCUAGUGUGCAUCACAUACACUGGUACUCUUCAUAGGAAACCCAUUCCAACGGCUAAGACCAAUCAUCUCUCUAAUUAGGAGGUAGUGCACUAUAGUCUCUACUGGAUUGCCUAAAUCCAUGAACCAAUUGUGGACAGCUUAUCUACUUACAAGGAAUCCAUGACUUGUACUUUUGUGCAACUCCUAAUGCACCUGAAUCAUGUACAAUGUAAGAAACAUGGGUUGAAUGCUCAAAUCAAUGUUAAUACACUAGAGGGAUAACAAGGAGACAGUUAAGUCUAACUUUGUUACAUCAUGUCUUGCUUAGUUAAGUCUAACUUUGUUACAUCAUGUCUUGCUUAGUUAAGUUUAACUUUAUUACAUCAUGUCUUGCUUUUAGGGUCUUAAUCCUAACAAGCUCCUACUACCCCAAAAGUAGACUAGGGUACUGUAGAAAAAAUAUACUCUACAGUCACGUCACCUUUCUAUACUAUCCCACAACAAGGUAUCACUUGUUUUCUAUAUAUUAUCUCUUAUAGUGGCACUUUAGUUAUUUGGACUAUGCCACAAUCCCAUAUAACAAUAUCUUAGACGAUAUAGCCAAUGGAAAUACUCAUAAGCUAAAAGGCUUCCUUUGUUGCUAUAGAAAUAACAAAAACCACUUAGAGUGUACACAUUCCCUAAGGUAGACUUGCGAGAGUCCUCAUUAGACUGAAAGUCCAAUUUCUCGAUACAAGGACUCACAAACAUAUCAUUCUUCAUUCUCUAAGGAUACUAGAGUAUAUGUUUGAAAUUCGCUCAAAGCUCUAAUCAAGAAAUGAACUAAUAUUCACUCAUUAUUCCUACAACAAAGCAAAUAUCUGGUUUAGCACAUAGCAUUGUAUGCUUAAGGCUAUCCAUUGUAGAGGCAUUGGAUACCUCCUUAAUGUGAUCUUUCUCCACAAAUGUCUGAUUACUACUCAAAAAGUGCUAUUUGAUAGCUUGUAAUUAACUCUUUUAAACACUUUUGAGUAGUAGUUAUUGCCUUUUAACCCAAUUAACAUGUUAAGGACCCUUGCAAUCAAUUCUAAUCAAAUUGUGUUAAGUUUUGGUCUUUUGAUAGCUUUUUGAUCACCAAAGCAAUCCAAGAUUGAGGAGAGUUAUUUGGAAUCCACGACAAAGCAAUGGAAAGCUCAAAUUCAUGAAGAACAAGAUUUGGAGCUCCAUAGCUCUUUGCCAAAGUCGUUCAAAGUAUGCAAGGAAAGAACAAAGGAGAGAGGAAAAACAGAGUGAAGAAAACAGAGGACAAUAGCUGCAGUCUUCUUUCGCACUUUUAGAGCACUUCCCGAAGUCCAUUUUCUACAUUCUAUAUACCAUUUAAAAUCUUAGGAAGUCAAGAAUCCAAUGCUUUAAACGGUGAGCAAUUCGGAGUUGAAACGAAGGAGUUACAGCCAUUGCAAGUAGAUCACUCCAAGUUGAAGGAAGAAUUUUGCACAACGCUGCGAAAUCACCCUUUUGUUGCGAAAUGAUUUCGCAGCCUUUUUGUUUAGUGUUGUGGAUUCCCUCCUGAAGUUGCCCGAUAUAUGCCGCAAGUUGGAAGCUGAGCACCUCAAGAUGAAAGCCAACUUCGCAGCCCUGCGAGAAUAACCUUUUGCUGCGAAGUGAUUUCGCAGCCCUUUUUGUGCAUCUGUGAAAUCUCGCAGACCUCGUUUUCACCUACGAAAUGGUCCUUAGUGCUUCCCAAUAUUUGUGCACCGACUCUUUUAGAUCUUUUCUUCAGAUAUUUUUGUAUAAAUUUCCAUUCUCUCCUAGUAAGCCACCAAUUAUGGGAUUCCUUAGUUAUUAAGUUGGGAAAAGGGGUGAAUAACUUGAGAUAUUUUGUUUUGUAAUUUUCUUUAUAUAUAGCUCUCGGGAGCUUGUUCUCAGGGCAUCAUAUCGAUCAAUAUAUAGAUAUAUCAUAUAUAGAAUCAACGAACAGAGCACUUGCUCUGUUUUUCAUAUAUAUUCUUGUUUUCUCGUUAGUUUUCUUUCUAGCCAACCAAACUCUGAGGAUUUUUCCUCAGAGGAUGAGAGGCUAAGCUUUUUGUCUCUUGGAGUAAGGAAAACCGGCUAAGUUUCCACAUGCAUAAAUUGGAAGUUUUGUUGUUUUAGUUUUUAAUGAAGAGAAAGUGUGACCCGUUAAUGGUUUUUAUAUUUUUAGUUAACUUAAAACGCCUUUAAAUCACCUGGGCCAACACUUGGGAAGGCAAGUGAUCUCUGUCCAUGGAGAUGCACUAGUUUACCCCUUGCGAGCCUUUGGGAGGUGACUUGAAGGUAGGAUUUUCUAGAAUAGGCAACACUUGGUAAGCUUUUGGACUCCAAGGAGACAUCUAUUAGUUAUCUCUUGCGAGCUUUUGACGGGUAAUCCAAGGUUAAAGAUCACCUUGAAUGGCAAGUGCUAGGUGAGAGGUAUGAGCCAUUGCAAGGUGCAUCAGUGAGAGGGAUUUAGUGUUUGAACCCAUUAAUGGGAAGCAUCUGUACAACACCGGUUAGAGAAUUAACUAUAUGUUAAUUCUCUAAUGCGAGGAAAAGAAACAAGUGACCGAAACUCUCUUUUUUGUAUGAGGAACCUGAGCCUAGUGAUCUGAACUCCAAAAAACAUUUUUCUUUGUAAGUAAAAUCAGUUACUAUUUUUGGUUAGUUUAAAACCAAACCUUUUUCAUUCAAACAUCUUUAUGUUUUCUUUUAAAGCUAACCUUGAAAUGAAAAGGCACCAAUUCAACUUUGAAUUAAUAUCAUUUGUGAAGUGAAAACCCAUCCCAGUGAACGAUCCUAGNNNNNNNNNNNNNNNNNNNNNNNNNNNNNNNNNNNNNNNNNNNNNNNNNNNNNNNNNNNNNNNNNNNNNNNNNNNNNNNNNNNNNNNNNNNNNNNNNNNNUAAUGGGAAGCAUCUGUACAACACCGGUUAGAGAAUUAACUAUAUGUUAAUUCUCUAAUGCGAGGAAAAGAAACAAGUGACCGAAACUCUCUUUUUUGUAUGAGGAACCUGAGCCUAGUGAUCUGAACUCCAAAAAACAUUUUUCUUUGUAAGUAAAAUCAGUUACUAUUUUUGGUUAGUUUAAAACCAAACCUUUUUCAUUCAAACAUCUUUAUGUUUUCUUUUAAAGCUAACCUUGAAAUGAAAAGGCACCAAUUCAACUUUGAAUUAAUAUCAUUUGUGAAGUGAAAACCCAUCCCAGUGAACGAUCCUAGAGCCACUAUGCUAUAGUAGCUUUGUCUUUGCUACCCUAGUAAAUGGUGUAAUAGGUUAUAAAUUUUGUUGAUUACUCCCUCAAUCAAGGAGCACCAGCUGGACACGAAUCAGCUGAGACACCAAUUGGGCAUGAAUCAAUGUCCAAGGACAUUGAUCCUAAGAAAGAUAACUCCAAAUCCAAAGAGUAACAAACCUUUCUUGGAGUUUUACAUCAUAUACUUGAACAAAUGCUGAUUAAUGUAGAUGACAUGGCAUAAUUUUUCCUAUUCCUGCAAUGCUAAAAGAUCUUAACCUUAAGAAUAUAUUGCGCAUUCCUCUAAAUUUUUUUCUAGAACUAAGUAAACAACUAGAUCUUGACAGAUGACAAUAUCUUUACAUCAUAUCCAAUGAGUAGAUUAUCAUCCACCUACAAGAUCUUAGAGCAUUACUACACUCCCAUAUGCUUUCAUGUACACACAAGGCCUAUUGCUAUGAAAAUGUUUGGUUGCUAUAUCUCAUAAAUCAAACACACUGCAAUAGAUAAGAGUAAUCUACUAGAUUUGAGUAUGAUCACUAUUGAAAAGGUUUUCCAUAGUUGAAACAAAGUUUCAAACUAUAACCUUUAACUAUAGUCUUAGCCAUAUAAAACUCAAGCUUUCCAUCUACUCCUGUGUUUCUCUUAUAGACCAACUUACACCUAUGAGUUUUAUCUCUUUAGGUGUCCUACAGGAACCCAAACUAUGUUAGAAUACAAAGAUUCUAACUACCUUUUCCUAGCUCAUUACCUUAAGUGAGUAUAAACAUUGUUGAAUGCUUCAUCAUAAUCUAUGAUAUAUAAACUUCCAUUACGAUGAGGCAUUGGUGUACUAGAAAUCAUAGGAAUGGUAUGCCUUUAACCCUCUAGAUCCACAAUAUCCUAUGCAAUAUGGGACUAUUUUCUAAUUUCUCCUCCAAUCUAUAUCAUUUUUUGCCUUAUUCCUUAUCAUACAGUUUUAAAUUUUUUUUUGACAUUUGUGCUAACAAAUAUCUUUUAAUGAUCCUAACUAUAAAGGUAGUAACCCAAAAAUGCUCUUAUAUAUCCUAUAAAUUGACAUACCUCUUAAGAAAAAGGGUAACCACCUUUUUAAAAAAUAGUAGGUAAAAUAUACUUGAUACAUACCUUCAAUCUUUUGUUUGUUUUACAUUUUGGUCUCUUAUAUUUGAAAUCCAUCAUUUUACCUAUUCAAACUUAUUAGAAAUCAACACUUCCAUAUCAUUUGCAAACCCUUUAUAAAUUAUAAAAAUGAUCUUUUUUUUUUCUAUAUUCUUGUUUGAACAUUGGUUUGAAUUUAGGUAAAACCAAUUUUGAAUUCAUAGCCUUGGGUAGUAUUUCCCAAACAUCUUUAUUUUAUUAUUUAUUAUCUAAUCCUUCAUGUCUUGUGGAAGCACGUUACAAGUUAUCUAUGCUAUCCAAGUACACCCCCUAUCACCUACCUUCUAAAUUAUGUGAAUAUGCUUAUCACUGUGAACCGUGCCUAUGUUUGGUAGUGCAUGGGUGUCUUGAUAUAUUGUUUCAUUGUUCAAUUAUUUAUGAUAAAGCGCAUGCUGGGUGAUAUUCUAUUUGAACUAACUUUAAUGUCUUUUGAUAGUGCUUAAAAAGCAGUCCAGGUAUGCACCCUAAAUCUUCUUUAUGAUUUGUGAUUGGUUCUUUUGUUUAGCAUGAUAUUUGUUUAAAUCACCUUAGUCUACCUAGGCACCCUCAAUCAACCAAUUAAUUGUCCCAAUUCUCUCAACUUAGCUAGUAAAGACCUCUUUAAGGCUUAGAGGGGUGCUACCUCUUAGAGGUAACUUCCCAAUAGGUAACCUGAUCCCCGAACCUAGACUCGGGUUUUUCAAAGACACAUUUUUCCAAAAACUAUAGUCACUUCUUUAGGGUUUUCUUUCUUAUUUUAUUUUUCCUUUUAAAAUAAAAUAAAAUAAGUGGUGACUCCAACUUUUCCAAAUUUUUCUUUUUUACCAAUAAAAGCGAAUAUCAUCGAUUGAGUGGGAGCGCAUGUGAAAAAUGCAAGACCACACUAUGGCUUUUGUAGUACUCCGGGUAUUGUUCUUAAGGACUAGCUUAUGGAAAUAGUCAAUACUAGAAUAAAUGAAUUGCUUUCGUUUAAAUCCUAAAGUGAAAAACACUAUGAGAAUAAUGUGAAACUAAGUAAAAGAAAAAUAAAUUAAUAACAAAAAUGGAUGUUGAUAUUAAAUUUGAUUGAUUCAAGUUUGGGGCUUUCCACAAUCCAACCUAGGGUAUAGAAAUUAGAGAAAACAAGGGUCUUUUAAGUAAUAUGAUCUUAGGGUUUUGGGAUCCUUGGCUCCUCAUGAUCAAGUUGAGUUCUAUAACAUAAAAUUGCAUCCGAAACCUAAUUUUUCCUUUUUAAAAUAAAAUUCCUAAAACCAUCAAAUGAAUGAGAUUGAUUACUAGUUUAAAAUUUGGACUUUUAACCCUUCCUACUCCUUAUAGUUUUGUUUUGGGGCAAAUAAUGAUAGAGAAAACGAGGAUAACUAAUGAUCAAGAAUUACCAAAAAUCACUAGUAUCGGGUAAUAACCUACCAUAUCAUUCCCUAAACUAACUCACAAGGAUAGGAUAAAAAAAUGAUAAAUUGUCACCCAACCAAUAAUUAAUCUCAUUGAUAUAAUAAUUUACCCAUUGUCCCUAUAGGUUUCCUAACCCUUAGGUUUUCAUGCUUUAAGCCCCAAGUUAGCUCUUAACCUCUCAUGGGGUUAUUGUCACAUUCACAAUCCAUAAUAGGGUAAAAAUCCAUAAUUUGAAUCAAAAGAACCUAAAAUAAUAUAUUUAAUAAAGAAGAAAAAGAAAACAAACCAAAGUUCUCAUCUUCUUCCACCUUCAAUGUCAAACUCUCUAGAAAAAAAAAAAAAAAAUCCAAGGUCCCUAAAACCUAGAACUAAGAGAGUUUAGAUAAUAUCAUCAAUUACCUAACAUGUGCCACACUCUCAUUGGCCACUUAUUACAAAAAUAAUUACCUAAAAAUGAUUAAAAAUUAAUAAAAUGGUGAUUUCUAGCAGUGUGUGGGGUCCAUUUAGGGGUGAUGGAGUGUCUUAGAUGCAAUUUCCAAGGUAGAGGAGGUGAAACAUCAAAGUGGCAGUGGGUGAAUUUGAAAUUGGUGUCAUUUUGAUGUGGAUUUUGAAUUCAUAAGUUGAAUUUCGAAAUCAUUUCGAAAUGACCCUUUAGAUUUGUGUAGUCGUCUUCAAAUAACCAUAACUUCUUCAUUUCAGCUUCAAUUUGCACACUGUUUGAAGUGUUGGACUCCUGACCUCCCAAGCUUCAAAAAAAUAUAUUGUAUGCAUAAAAUGGGCUCCAGAAAAUGCUCCAAAUUUAUCCUCAAAGUCAGAGUAUAUAUUACCAUCAGAUUUUUGAGUUCUAGAUUUCCAUGUAGCUGAAUCUUGCUUCAUGCCUCAAUUCCUAUGUUUUCUUGCCUUCUUUCUUACUCCAUUAUGAUCAUUUCUCAUAUUCCAAACUCAUGAUAUCCUCGUCUUGCCUUUCCUCAUGGUCCAUGAGUCAUGACUCACCUAUUUCUUCAUUUAACCCUUUCUUGAUCUUUCAAAAUCUAAAGUGAUUCAACUUGCACCAUUUUCUUCCCUUGAACCUGAGAUAAGUCUCCAAAGUACAAAUAAAACUCCUGGCUAGGUCCUUAGCAUUAAUUUAGGUCAAGUUGGGUGAUUUGAAUGUUCUUUGGUGCACAAAUCAUAUCAAAUAUGUGUCAUUAGAGCACAUAUUUUGGCUCCAAUCAUCCCCCUCAACUAAACUUUGCUAGUCCCUAGCAAAUGAAAAGAGUAAAGAAAAAAAUUAAAAAUAUGUAAUGAGAUUCAUGAAACCAUAUUGACUCAACAUAACAUAUUUCACACACAAGAUACCCAAGUAGUCAAAUUUCUUAGAAUUGAGCAAAAUGAAACAAGAUAUGCAAUUUUUUAGUUUUCUCACCUUAUCUUCGUAUACAUAAAUGUGCAUCCACGUUUAGCAUUCCCCUUAGUGUCUCUUGAUUUUCCCCUGAUUAGUUUUUUCCACCUAAACCUCAUGUGCUUAAUUUUGGUUUCCUCUCACAGUAUUUUUCUUUAGACUUUUCUUAAACUCAAACUUCAUCAUUCUUUAAGUUAAAGAGGGGGGGAAAUUUAUUUUGAUUUUUCUUUCUUAGUUUAGGAAAUCUCCUUCUAUAUGGCUUAAUAGGGAUCCACCGGCAACUCCUAAGUUUUCACCCAUGGUACCAGGUAUUGGGAACCUUUAUAGGCUACUUACUCCUCAGGUAUUACCCUAGCUCUAGAUAGAACAAGGUCGAAUUUCCUAAACAUUUAUUUAUUUUUAUUUUUCAAAACUGAGUUUAACUUAUGUUACAAGCAAGAUACUGAUGACUCUUAACCAGUCGGUUUCGGGCACCAGGGCUUGAAGACACAAGGCCAUUACCCCCUCAAAUAAUUUCUCAAGCUUAAAUCAAUCAUUUUCAAUUUUCUUUUCAUCAAUUUGUUUUUUUUUUUUUCAUUUCCUCCUUUUAUUAGUUAAGAACAACUCCUUUUAAUCUAAAGAAAUUAUCUUAAUCAAGAUACCAUAAAGGAAUAUGUGCUUUGUGUGUGCUUUGAGUCUUAAAUAGAAAAUAACCAUAAAAAUAAAAUAAAAUAAAAUUUUGAAGGUAUUCCAAGGAUUCAACCUAAUUAUUUUUGUACUUAAAGGUAUAUAAAGAUAAGGUAAGUGAACUAAUAUUCUUGCUCUAACUGUAUUUUUUCUCAAAUUCUAAAGAAAUAAUACUACUUAAAGCAUUCUCAUGCAAAAUAAACCAUGAGUUACCAAGGCAAAUCAAGAAUCUCAUUAACUAACCAAAGAUAACAUGCAAACUUUUGAAAAAAAAAUUAGGGCUAAUAGACCUUCCCCCCUCAACCUAAAUUACACAUUGUCCCCAAUGUGUAGGAUAUUGGGUCAAAAGAAAGGAAAAAUGGAGAUGUUAUCUCAAGAUCAUCGAGUGAGAAGUUUGUUAUGAGGACUUCAUAUAAACUAGUCUUGCACAAAAGCAACAAGAUUAGUGGCAAAAGUAUGCAUAGAGAAAAAUAUAAAUGGUGAUCUAAAAGAGAGUAUAAGAGUAUCAGUAUGCUCCAAAAAUACCAUAGUGUAUACAAUUAUAUCGAAUAAGGUAUAUAUAGAAAUGAACAUCAAGCACCAAUGAUAGGAUCAACAACUCCAUCUAUCCCCUCCAACACAUGGGUGGCUACCUAGUCAAUAUCCUCCAAUAUAGGUGUAGUAGCUAAUUAGUGAUCUCCACGAUAGGUGUAACGGCCUCGCCAACAACCUGUACCAUAGGGGGGUCAUCCUUAAUAAUGAUGUCCACACUAGUGUCAGUAGUAUGAAUGAAGAUCUCACCAUCGACCUAUCCUGCAGAAUCUGGAAUAUCAAUAGUUGAGGUAAAAAUCUUAGUUGCGGCAUCACUUGAUGUUUGUAAAAUAGGCAUGGUCUCAUGGGCUACUGUCGGUGCUCUAGUGUUAGAGCCAGAAUCAAUCACCUCUGUAGUGUUGCCAUCAACCUCUAAGUUGGUAUCAAUUGGUGUAAUAAAAUCUCCCCUCUGUCUAGAUGGAAUAAUCAAAGAAGUGACCUAUUGUACACAAAAAGUGAGGUCAUCCAUCUAAGUCUCCAUCUUACUUAAGCGAGCAUCAAUGCGAGAGUCCAUGGACACAAAUAACUUUUGAAGUGUGUCUAGACGAGCCAUGAUUGAUAAGGUACUCAGGGUAGCAUCAACAACCUGAGGCAGUGAAGGUUUAAGAAGAUCAAAGGUUGGUAAUGCUAGUGUAGAAAUAGGAAUAUAUAGCAGGCUCUAAGACACAUGAAAGAGGUGGUGGAAGAGGAAUAGGAAGCACUGGUAAGCUCGUGUCAAAAGUAGGAGUAGGUGGAAGCGGGCUCUCUAUAGUAGAUGGAAGUGGAACAACAUGCAAAGCUCUCUUUCUCUUAGCGCCAUAGGUAAUCAACUAUGACCCUGAAUGAAUUGUUUGACCCACUGAUUGAUAACAUAAGUGUGAGAAGUCAUGCGAUGAUCAGACUUAGGUAACUGGCAUCCAUGACGGAGCAAGUAGUAUGAGAGCAACUGAGGCAAAGGAAUAAGAUAACUUUGAGCUAAAGAUAAUUGUUUCUCCUUAACCUUUUGAAAAAAAUAAAAGAUGGUAUCCAUGAUGAGUUGAGGUGGACUCCACCACUUGCCUGUGUACAUGUGAUAUAACCCCUAUAAGACUAAACCAGAACACUUUAUAGAGUGUCCAAAUGGAAAAUGUUGGUCUUAAUGACCUGAUCCACAAACCAUAAGAUCUAUGGCAUCUCAAGGUGAGUGAUGGCUGAACGAUAACAAGUAUCCCGAGGUGCUAAUAUAUGUGCAAUCCUCGAAAAAGCUGGUUGUGAUUGAGGUGAAAAUUGGGCUUCAAGAGGAGCAGAUGAUGGUAAACCAAAGGUUGCAACAAUGGUCUCAGUGGAAAUAAUAUCAAUUCAUCUAUUGAUAGAAAUAUGGAGCUCUCGGUAUCUCCCUCUCCAAUCCUCGAGAGUAGAGAAGAACUCUCUUACACUAGCGACAUAAAAAUAUGGCGGAGGAUCCAUCAAUAAGAGAAAAUAAUAUCGGUCAAGGAGAUGCAUGGACUAUGUAGUGGGCUAGUAAGUACUAAAUGCCUUUAUUUCAUAAGAGAACUCUUGAUCAAACUUCAGUUAAGAUAGGUCCACCCUAGGGGCAUCAUCACAAACUAUUAGAGAUGGAGGACGUGUUGGGCUCAGAGUAGGAGGAGCUGCCCAUGGAUGUGGAGGAGUGGUAGUAAGCUUGGUGGUCUUAAGAGUGGUUGAGUGAUCAAAAUGAGCCUUUGUCUUGGCUUUGACAUGCUUGGCUUGACGAGUGACAUGCCUCUCAGUAGGCUCAAUAAUCAUUCCACCACUUCGACUUUGGACAAGAGGUCGGGCAUGUUUUUGCCUUGGAGAAUGCUUAGUCUCAUUGUCACUUUGAAUAACAACUUUCCUUUUAUAUUAAGCCAUCUGAAAUAAAUGUCAAAAAAUAAACUAAACUUAAAAAAGGGAAAUAAAUAAAUAGAAAUAAAUACAAAAACUCAUAAGGGUUAAGAAAACAAUCUAAAAAAAAAAAUUGGAUGCUCAUGAAAUUUAUGGAUUCAUAUGAAACGGUGGUAGACCAUUCCUAAAAUGCGGGAGAACAUUCAAGGUGUCCAACAAUGAUGAAAACAUGAGUCUUUGAAGCCUUAGAUAUAAUCCAAACAAUACCUAAGUUCAAAUAUCAUGUGACAAGGAAAUCAAAGUGAUUGGUUAGCUUAGGAGAAUGUGUAGAACAAAUAGAAAAAUCUACUAGAGAGUUUAAAAUGUUCUAGAGCAUAUAAAACAUAAAUUAGGCAACAAUUAUGCAAAACUCAUGGAAAAAUAAGAACUUUGCUCUCAAAGUAUUCUAAGAUGUUCAACAAGCCCUAAGAAUCAUGUAGAAAAAAUUUCAAAAUUUUUCUCCAAGUAUAAACCAAAAAUUCUAACACCUUGAAUUUCCAAGCAAAACAAAUGAACGUUGUGUAAUCAAAAUCAAUCUUGUUGAGUUACGUUCAAAUUUUCGGGGGUCGAGCUCCCCGCUAAGCUUGUGGGGGUCGGGGGGCAGCACCCUCUAGAAUUGUUUUUUCAUUAUAUUUAUUAUUUUUUUUUAUCUACCCAACAGAAACAAUAGAAACCCUAAACAAUGUUAUUGAGAGUUUGGUCACACUGCAUUUUAUAUGGAGCAACACCACACAAUGAAACCAUAAAGAUCAAGGAAAAUCCAUGAAAAAUAAACAAGAAAUGAGUAUGAGUGUAAUGCGUACCUGGAAUGUGACAAACCCAUAAUGAACCCUUAAAUCACCUUCAAUGGAAGCUAGGACAAUGAACAAGGGAAGAAUAAACAAGGGGAAGAGGAGAUAAAGUGGUCUAGAAGUGGAAAUGGCCUUUUGUAAAGGAGUUUGGUUGAUUUCGGAGUGAACUCGAAAUAGAAAUUAAGUAUUUUGAAUUGGAACUUUGGUUAAGAAAAGUCAUUUUGAAAUUUAACUAUUGAAUUCAAAAAUAACCUUAUUUUGAAUUCGUUAAUUAAUGGUAAAAAAAUGCCCAUUUUAAAAUGUAACCAUUGGAUUCGAACACUAUCCUAUUUCCAAAUGGCUCACUAUAUACAAAAACAUUUCAAACACCUCAUUUCGAAAUGAAAAAAAAAAAAUCAUUUCUAAAUUGGGCAAAUUUCGAAUUCACCUUCUGAACUUAAAAAAUCUCAAUUCUAAAGCAAAAGUUUCAAUUUUGAAAAGCCCACCAUUUCAAAUUUGCUAAAUGUAGCCUCAAUACAGUGUAAAAAACCUGUUUCAAAAUUCCACUAAUGAUUUCGAAAAUAGCUUCAUUUCAAAAUGGCUCACUGUUGAUUCCAACUUCUAUUUCGAAAUAGCAAUCUUUUUUAUUUCAAAUUUGACGUCAUUUCGAAAUAACCCACUAUGGGUGUUGAAGUCCAUCUUAAAGCAUCAAAAUUGCUCAUUUCGAAAUUCAAAAUUCAUUGUAUUUCAAACUUGUUUUUUGUGAGUUCAAAACACCUAUUUCAACAUUUACUAGUGAUUUCAAAAUCAAUCUCAAUUCAAAUUCACUUUCUAUAUAUUUAAAAUUGCAAUUCCAAGACAAAAAAUUUGAAUUCGAAAGGAUCAUAAUAUUGAAAUCACCCAUUACUGGUCUUCAAAAGUGUCAUCUCCAUUUGAGAUUUCAAAUUCAAAAAUAAAGGAAUUUUGAAUUCAUCCACUAUACCUUUAGCCCUUUAUCAUAAAAAUUUAGGAUUUCUUUCCCAAGGGCUACUCAGUUUUGUAUUUCAUCCUUUGUUUUCAAAGUUCACCAAUGAUCCUCACAAGUAAAUUUUUGGGAGGCCUAUGGUCUUAAAUAUAGAUCAACGUACUUGUAGGAGCUUUGCCACCUUGAACACUUAUGAGGCUUACCUUUUCACUACAUUGAAGUUCACAUUUACCUAUAUCACUUGGAUGUUUGCAAGCUAAGUUGCUACAACUCAUAAACUCAUUAGUAAGUUAAAGACAACUUAAAAAAAUACUAACCAUAUUUCUAAUGACUAAUUGAAAAUGAAAAACUAAACAAAGGAAAAUAAAUAAAAUAAAACAAAAUAAAAGAGAAAUUAAAUAAAUAAAAGUUUUACCUAAAUUUAAUUUUUACCUACUAGAUUUUCAGAAAAUACUUCAACCCUUUUGAACAUUCCCAUAAAGAAAAUGGAGAUUCUCCUCUAAUGUCUCAAAUCUUUCAAUGAAAUGCUUUAAGCGCUGACCACUAACUUUGAAUUCAUUACCAUUCCUCAGAUUUCGAAUGGUCACGAUGCCAUAAGGGAAGACUUCCUUUACCACAUAAGGGCCAUUCCACCUUGACCUAAGCUUUCUUGGAAAAAUGUGACGCUUAGAGUCGUACAACAACACCUUUUCAUCUUGCUUUAACUUCAUUCAUAAAAUAAGUUUGUCAUGGUAGAAUUUGUGUGUUUCCCUUGCAUUACGUAAGCAUUCAUAAUUCUAAUUUUGAUAUGCCUCAAGUUCAUUCAAAUCAUAUUUCCUUUUAGCUCCAGUUUGAUCCAAAUCAAAGUUCAUUUUUUUAUAGCCCAAUAUGCACGAAGUUUGAGCUCUAUAGGCAAAUGACAUGAUUUACCAUAAACAGUCUGAUACGGUGACAUGCCAAAGAUAGUCUUAUAGGUUGUCCUAUAUGCCCGAAGUGCAUCACUCAACUUGGUAGACCAAUCUUUUCUUGUAGUAUUGACUACUUUGGUAAGGAUUCUCUUAAUCUUUCGAUUUGCUAGCUCAGCUUGCCCAUUUGUUUGAGGGUGAUAUGGGUGGACACUUUAUGCCUCACUCCGUAUUUCUGAAAAAGAGUGGAAAAAGGGCUUGUUACAAAAGUGUGAACCUCCAUCACUAAUGAUUGCUCUCAGAAUGUCAAACCUAGAGAAAAUAUUCUCCUUUAAAAAUUUGAGCACCACUUUGUGAUCAUUGCUCUUGCAUGCCACUGCUUUUACCCAUUUAGAAACAUAAUCCACUCCCACCAAAAUAUAGAGAUUACCAAAAGAAUGAGGGAAUGGUCCCAUAAAGUCAAGGCCCCAACAAUCAAAGACCUCAACAACACAAAUAUAAUUUUUUGGCAUUUGAUACUUUGUGUUGAUUUUCUCCAGUUGUUGACAUUGUGGACAACUUCUGCAGUGAGUGUUACAAUCCUUGAACAUAGUUUUCCUAUAGAAUCCACUCUGUAGAAUUUUUUCCUAAGUCUUCCGUAGACCAAAAUGACCUUCACAAGCUCUCUCAUGGCACAUUCGCAACAUGUUUUGUUGUCCAUCCUCUGGAACACAUCUUUGAAUAAUUUGAUUUGGACAAAACUUAUACAAAUAUGGAUCAUCCCAAGCAUAGUGUUUUGCUCACCAACAAUCAAAGACCUCAACAACACAAAUAUAAUUUUUUGGCAUUUGAUACUUUGUGUUGAUUUUCUCCAGUUGUUGACAUUGUGGACAACUUCUGCAGUGAGUGUUACAAUCCUUGAACAUAUUUGGCCUAUAGAAUCCACUCUGUAGAAUUUUUUCCUAAGUAUUUUGUAGAGCAAAAUGACCUCCUGAUUCGCUUGUAACUCCAAAUGGGUCAUUUAAUCAAAAACAUUUAUAAAACCUAUGACCUCAUACUAAUGUAGUAAAGCUACUAUAGUAUAGUGGCUCUAGGGUCGAACUCUGGGAUGGGUUUUCAUUCUACCAGUGAUGUAUUCAAAAUUAGAAAUUGUAUUUAAUGAUUUCCUUUAUCAAAAACUUAAAGUUUAAAAGAAAAUAAAAUUUGAUUUGAAAGUGUUUAAAACUAAACUAACAUAAACUAAUUAAAAAUGGAAGAAAGAAAGUCUCCCGGAGCUAAGGGUUGCUAGGAUCAAGUUCAGAAUAGAAAGUGGAAAAUUCCGGAUUUUUCUCCUCGCAUUGGGGAUUUAACCUAUAGUUAUUUCCCGAACCGGUAUAGGUUUGACAAUGAAGAUUUAAUCCAUAAAAGAUCAAUAGAAAUGGUAGUCAAGGUCCAUUAAUGGCUUAAGACACUAUGGGUCUUCACCUUGAAUCACUUUCCAAUGACUCGUACAUGAUAACUAAUGGACUAAUAUGGAUCUAGCAAUAAGCAUCCAUAAAGACCUGAAGCUUACCAUGUAUUGAUCAUUCAAAGUGAUUCUAAGGGGUUUAAAGUAAAACUUUGGAUUUAGAAGCCGUUUAUGAAUUCCAACUACCUGAAUUUAAUGCAUGGAAGCUUUCCACCUUUUCAUCUGGACUUUUCACCUAGCUUCCUUUACUCCAAGAAACCGAAAGUUUAGCCUCUCAUCCUCCGGGCAAACAUCCUUAGAGGUUGUUUGGCUUCCAAGAAAAGGAAAAUAAUAAAGAGCAAAGAGAACGAGAGAGCUCUGUAAAAUUCUCAGUGUAAAAACGUAAUACGUAUUCCAUAUAUUCCAAGAGAUGAUUUCCACCCCUUAUAAAGUCUUUACAAAAGCUAAAGCUUAUGAUUGGUUAAUUACAAGGAUAAUAAAGGAAAUUACAUCACAAAAUACAAAGGAAAAUAUCUAAAGUGGAGUCGGCAAAGGGCAGAGCAAAAUUCGCAACACGCAUAGGUUAUGCGAACCAUAUGCGAAUGUUAUGCGAAUUUCGCAUAACCUCUUGUGGAAUGCGAAAUUUUCGCAUAUGCUAGAGCAGUUGGCUUCCGAAGGCCAUAUCUUCCUCAUUUCAGCUCCAAAUCGUACAUGGUUUGAAGUGUUGGAUUCUUGACUUCCAGAGCUUUGAAAUGGUAUAUAGCAUGUAAAAAAUGGACUUCGGGAAUUGCUCCAAAAGUGUGAAAGAAGACUGCAGCUGCUACAUCUUGAUUUUUUUUCACUUUGCUUCUCUUUGCUUCUCUCCUUUGCUUGACUUGUCUUAAUGAUCCAAAAAGCUGUCAAAACAUUAAAACUAGCCACAAAUAUGAUUAGAAGACAUUGCUAGGUCCUUAACAUGCCAAUUGGACUAAAGAUGGAGAACUACUACACAAAAGUGCUUAAAACAUAAUGCAUUAAAGGUGUAAAAUAGCACUUUUUGGGUAGUAAUCACCUCCACAAGCUCUCUCAUGGCACAUUCGCAACAUGUUUUGUUGUCCAUCCUAUGGAACACAUCUCCGAAUAAUUUGAUUUGGACAAAACUUAUACAAAUAUGGAUCAUCCCAAGCAUAGUGUUUUGCUCAAGAAAGAAAAUACUUUUCAUCUCCAUGUUCCAUUCUGAGGGAAGCUCUCUAGUUGCCAAGUAGUUGACUAUAUUUGCAAACCAAGGAAACUUCUCCACUGCACAAAGUGCAUCAUCAAGAAACUCAUCAUUAAUCUAUGCUUCGUCAAAAAGUGACUCUACUUUAACUCAAGAGAGAUGAUCAGCAACCACAUUCUUUACCCCUUGCUUAUCCUUGAUUUGCAUGUUAAAUUCUUGAAGAAGAAGGAUCCAUAUGACAAGUCUUGUUUUGACAUCCUUUUUGUUGAGUACAUAUUUCAAGGCCGAAUAAUUAGUAAAAAUUACUAUUGAAGUUCCCAAAAGGUAGUUCCUGAAUUUAUCAAGUGCGAACACCACUGCAAGGAGCUCCUUUUUAGUAGUUGUGUAGUUCUUCUGAGCAUCAUUGAGGGUCUUACUAGCAUAGUACACCCUAUAUGGUUUUCCAUCCUCCCUUUGACCUAGUACGACUCUCACUGCAUAGUGACUGGCAUCACACAUCAACUCAAAUGGAAGAGACCAAUUGGGAGGUCUCACAAUUGCGGUAGUAGUGAGAAGUGACUUUAGUCUCUCAAAAGUUUCUUGACAUGCUUUAGUCCAUAUAAAUUCUGCAUCCUUAAGUAACAAAGCAUAAAGAGGUUGAGAGAUUUUUUAGAAGUCCUAUAUGAACCUUCUAUAAAAAUCUGCAUGCCCCAAAAAUAGUAUAAUUCACAUGUUUAUUUUAUUUUAAAAAUUAAUUGGAUAAUUAGUUUUGGUAUAAUUUUUGUUAAUUUUAUUUUAAAGAUUCUUUGUAUGAUUAAUUUGUAUAAUUUUUGUUAGUUUAAUUUUAAAAAUUCAUUAGAUGGUUAAUUUGUAUAAUUCAUAUGUUAGUUUUAUUUUAAAAAUUAAUUAGAUGAUUAGUUCAAGCAUAAUUUUUGUUAAUUUUAUUUAAAAAAUUCUUUGUAUGAUUAAUUUCUAUAAUUUUUCUUAGUUUUAUUUUAAUGAGAUUGAUUACCAGUUUAAGAUUUGGCUUUUUAAUCCUUCCUACUCCUUAUAGCUUUGUUUUGGGGCAAAUAAAGAUAAGGAAGACGAGGAUAACUAAUGAUCAAGAAUUACCAAGAAUCACUAGUAUCGGGUAAUAACCUACUGUAUCAUUCCCUAAACUAACUCACAAUGAUAGGAUUAAAAAAAAUGAUAAAUUGUCACCCAACCAAUAAUUAAUCUCAUUGUUAUAAUAAUUUACCCAUUGUCCCUAUAGGUUUCCUAGCCCUUAGGUUUUCAUGCUUUAAGCCCCAAGUUGGCUCUUAACCUCUCAUGGGGGUGAUGUCACAUUCACAAUCCAUAAUAUGGUAAAAAUCCAUAAUUUGAAUCAAAAUAACCUAAAACAACAUAUUUAAUAAAGAAGAGAAAGAAAACAAACCAAAGUUCUUAUCUUCUUCCACCUUCAAUGUCAAACUCCCUAGAAAAAAAAUCCAAGAUUCCUAAGACCUAGAACUAAGAGAGUUUAUAUAAGAUCAUCAAUUACCUAACAUGUGGCACACUCUCAUUGGCCACUUAUUACAAAAAUAAUUACCUAAAAGUGAUUAAAAAAAUUAAAUGGGGAUUUCUAGUCGUGUAGGGUCCACUUAGGGAGGAUGGAAUGCCCUAUAUGCAAUUCCCAAGGUAGAGGAGGCAAAACAUCAAAGUGGCAAUGGGUGCAUUCGAAAUUGGAGUCAUUUUGAUGUGGAUUUCGAAUUCAUAAGUUGAAUUUUGAAAUUAUUUCGAAAUGACCCUUAAGCUUUGUGUAGUUGUUUUCAAAUGGCCAUAACUUCUUCAUUUCAGCUCCAAUUUGCACAUUGUUUGAAGCAUUGGAAUCAUAACCUCCCAAGCUUUGAAAUAAUAUAUCGUUUAAAUAUAAAAUGAACUCUGAGAAAUGCUCCAAAUUUGUCCGCAAAGUUGGAGUAUAUAUUACCAUUAGAUUUUUGAGUUUUAAAUUUCCAUGUAGCUGAAUCUUGCUUCAUGCCUAAUUUCUUAUGUUUUCUUUCCUUCUUUCUUACUCGAUAAUGGUCAUUUCUCAUAUUCCAAACUCAUGAUAUCCUUAUCUUGCCUUUCCUCAUGGUCCAUGAGUCCUGACUCACUUAUUUCCUCAUUGAACCCUUUAUUAAUCUUUCAAAAUCUAAAGUGAUUUAACUUGCACCCUUUUCUUCCCUUGAAUCUGAGAUAAGUCUCCAAAGUACAAAUUAAACUCAUGACUAGGGCCUUAGCAUCGACUUAGGUCAGGUUGGGUGAUUUGAAUGUCCUUUGGUGCAUAUAUCAUAUUGAAUAUGUGCCAUUAUAGCACAUAUUUUGGCUCCAAUCAAGCUUACCUGCCAAAUUCUGCAUGCCAAACAUUGAGUGAUAGAAUGGAGUGGGUUGUCCGAAGAUUCAUUUGAGGCUCUAUAGUAUAUUUGUGAGAGCACACAGAUUAGAUGAUAUGUAGUUGGUUGCUCUCUUCCCUAUGUCAUUUAGUUGAGUAGCAUAGAGGUGGCUGGCCUCAAUUAAGCAUUCGAGACUCUACACUUGGGAGGAUGUGGCCUAUGAGUUUUUGACACUGUUUGCCUUUAGUGCCGAUAUUGAUUUUUUUUUUUUUUUUACCAAACAAAGCGUCGAGAAUGUUACUUAACCAUCCCUAUAGUAAAAGCAAAAUUUGUUGCUUUUAGUGCUGAUAAUGAUGUUUCUAGGCGAGAGUUAGAGGCUACUAAGUAGAGGCCAAAUGAAUCUGUUUCUUCAUUUAUUAGUCAUUAGAGGGCUAAGGUGGUUGGUAUGAUAGAUUGACUAAAGGAGUAAGAUAGGAUUAACGUGCUUCUUUGGAAACUUCAGCCGAGGUUUGCCAAACAUCUUGUAGGUAUUCCAUUUGAAGACUUAUGAAGUUUGGUUCAAGUCGCUUUUAGUGUUGAGGAGAGUAUUGCUAGAGGGUUAUAGAAAAACAUUAUUCCUUCCUUAGAUAAUAAAGGAAAGAAGCCUGUAGAGGUUAGCACUAUCAGUUAUCAUCAUCAAGGUCAGUUUAUCAAUCAUACCAAAGGUCUCCUACAAUCAGAGCCCACUUUCCUCAUCCUUUGUGCCAAUAUUAGUCCACCUAUAUUCAACAACCUUUCAUUACUCGGACCAGUAUGCAACCACGACUUCCAUAUCCUAGAGGCAUUGGUUCUCAAUCAUUACUCAUGUUCCCACUCAUAUUUUUUACACACGUGAUCUUUAUCGAAGAGGGACAUAUUUGUAGACCCUCCAUUCUAUCUCCUUAAUAGAUGCCCUAUUAAGUGUUCUUUCAAUACUCCACAAUGGUUCCCUAGUGGCUCUUUGCUGCCCAUAUAGCCUACCUAUUUUAGCCACCUUGGAGGCUUUGGUUAAGGAAUUUAUUUGACCCCUUAUUUUGACCCUUGGCAGAAUCGAGUUAGAUUUAGGUUUUUCUUUUUUCUUUUUAGGAUAGUUCCUUUAAGUACAUUUCUAGGAUAGAAUACUUAGGCAUCAUUUUUCGAUCACCUUGGCCCAUUUAGACACUUUUGGCCAAUUUAGGCACAUCCGACCCAUUUAGGAUCACCCUAACCCAUUUAGAUACAUCUGGCCUAUUGAGAUCACCUUGACCGAUUCAGACACUUAGGUACAUCUAACUCAUUUAGGUCACCUUGGCCCAUUUAGACACACAUAGGCCCAUUUAGGCGCAUCCGACUCAUAUAGGAUCACCCUAGCCUAUUUAGACACAGCCAACCUAUUUAGGAUGACCUUGUCUCAUUUAGACACAUUUGUCCUAUUUAGGAUUACCUAGACCCAUUUAGGCACAUUCAACCCAUUUUGGUCAUCCUAGCCCAUUUAGACCACUUAGGCCCAUUUAGGCACAUUAGGCACAUUGGACCCAUUUAGGAUUACCCUGGCCUACUUAGGCACGCCUUAACCCAUUUAGGUCACUUGGCCCAUCUAGGCACAUUUGGCCCAUUUAGGAUGACCUAUGCCAAUUUAGGCACAUUCAACCCAUUUAGGUUGCCUUGGCCCAUUUAGAAACACCCAAGCCUAUUUAGGUCACUUAGGCCCAUUUAGGCACACCUUGGCCUAUUUAGGUCACUUAGGUCCAUUUAGGCGCAUUCGACCCAUUUUGGAUCAACCUGACCCAUUUAGGUAUAUUUGGCCCAUUUAGGAUCAUCGUGGCUCAUUUAAACACACCCUGGCCCAUUUAGGUCAUUUAGGUCCACUUAAGAACACAUUAACCCAUUUAGGUCACUUAGGCCCAUUUGACCCAUUUAGGAUCACCCCCAGCCCAUUUAGACAUACCCAAGCCCAUUGAGGUGACUUAGGUCAAUUUAGGCACAUUUGGUCCAUUUAGACACUUUGGGCCCAUUUAGGAUCAUCUAGGCCCAUUUAGGCACAUCCAACCCAUUUAAGAUCACCCUAGCCCAUUUAGACACAUUCGACCCAUUUAGGAUCGUCUUGGCCUAUUGUAGCACAUUUGGCCCAUUUAUGAUCACCAUGGCACAUUGGGCCCAUUUAGGGUCACUUAAGCCCAUCUAGGCACACCCUAAGCCCAUUUAGGUCACCCGUUGUUUCACUUCUUAUUGCAUGGUUUGCGUGAUUGCAUUGUUGAACUUCCUUGCAUGGCUUGCAUGACACUUUGUUUUUUUUUUUUGUUAUUAUUAAUUACUUCUUUAUUUUUAUUUAUUAUCUUUCUAUUUAUUUAUUUAUUAUUUACUUAUUUAUCUAUUAUUAUUUCAGCAUUUUCUAAAUUAUUUUUAAAUACUAUUCAUUUGUUCAAUCUAAUUUUAUUUUUGUGUUUUUGUAGGGAAAUUUACCAAAGAGAGAGCCAACGGAGAUGGAAAGUAAGAAUCACCAAAAUGAAAAAGGAAGAUAAUGGCGAAAGAGAGUAAUACUUACCAAAAAGAGAGGGGAUUGUGAGUUGCAUUAUAAAAGUAUGGAGAACACAAUUUGGGAAGUUUAUCAAAGAGAGAGCCAAUGGAGGUGUAAAACAAGAAUUACCAAAGUGAAAAAGGAAGACAAAGCGACAGAUAGUAAAACUUACCAAGAGAAGAGGGGAUUGAGGGUUGCAUUAUGAAAAUAUGGAGAACAUGUUUUGGUACUGAGAAAUUCAACACAUGGAGAAGGUUUUGGAGUAAGGAGAGGAAGGAUUUCGUCAAGGUGGAAUUUUAAGAAAAAAGGAUAUUCAAUGUGGUAGGAAGGAAUGUUUAGCAUAUUAAGGAAGAAUGUGGGGAUAGGUAGGGGGGAAGAAGAAUAAUUGCAAUUUGUUUUUUUUUUUUUGGUAGAGAGAACACUUUGGCAAAUUUUUGGGAGGUUCAACGUGCAUGUACAAUAAGAUCUCUUGAAAGAGCACGUAUAGAAGAGGGCACAAAUUUUUUUAGGAGACAAUUAGUUGCAUCUUAAAAGGGAAUUGAAGGUAAAUAUUGAUGAUGAUAUUGAUUUUAUUAGUUUCGAAAAUAUUGAUAUUAGUUUCAUGAAUAUGGAUGUUUUAGUUUAGAUAGAUAUUGAUGUUUUAGUUUUGAAAAUAUUGAUGUUUGCUAAGAUGUUUUGAUUUGGAUAAAUUUUGACAUUUUAGUUUUGAUAAAUAUUGAAGUCUUGGAUGUAUUUGCAUGUUGGUUAUAUUAAAAAAAAAAAAAAUUCCAAAAGUUUAGUUUUCAUGAAAUUGAUUGUUAGUUAUUUCUAUAAAAAAUAAAAAUAAAAAUAAAAAUAAACAUAAAUCUUGGAAUGUAAUUUUGAUUAAAUUAAUUGUUAGUUGUUUUUUUUUUAAAAAAAAUAUAUAUAUAAAUUCUUGGAAUGUUCAUUUGAAUAUUUUUUUGUUAAUUUUGUUUUAAAAAUUUAUUGGAUGAUUAGUUUGGGUAUAAUUUGUAUGUUAAUUUUAUUUUAAAAUUUCAUUGGAUGAGUAAUUUGUAUAAUUUACAUGUUAGUUUUAUUUUAAAAAUUCAUUGGAUGAUUAAUUUGUAUAAUUCACAUGUUAGUUUUAUUUUAAAAAUUAAUUGGAUGAUUAGUUCAAGUAUAAUUUUUGUUUGUUUUAUUUAAAAAAUUAAUUUGAUAAUUAGUUGAAGUACAAUUUUUGUUAGUUUUAUUUUAAAAAUUCAUUGGAUGAUUAAUUUGAAUAAUUUUUAAAUUAAUUUUAUUUUUCUAAAUUCAUUGGAUGAUUAGUUCGGGUAUAAUUAGCUUGUUUAUUAUAUUUUAAAAUUUUAUUAGAUGAUUAAUUUGUAUAAUUCACAUGUUUGUUUUAUUUUAAAAAUUAAUUGGAUGAUUAGUUUUGGUAUAAUUCUUGUUAAUUUUAUUUUAAAGAUUCUUUGUAUGAUUAAUUUGUAUAAUUUUUGUUAGUUUAAUUUUAAAUAUUCAUUAGAUGAUUAAUUUGUAUAAUUCGCAUGUUAGUUUUAUUUUAAAAAUUAAUUAGAUGAUUAGUUCAAGUGUAAUUUUUGUUAAUUUUAUUUUAAAAAUUCUUUGUAUGAUUAAUUUGUAUAAUUUUUCUUAGUUUUAUUUUAAAAAUCAAUUGGAUGAUUAAUUUGGGUAUAAUUUUUGUUAAUAUUUUUAGAAAUUAAUUGGAUGAUUAAUUUGUAUAAUUUACAUGUUAAUUUAAUUUUAAAAAUUCAGUGGAUAUUUAAUUCAUAUAAUUUGCAUGUUAGUUUUAUUUUAAAAAUCCAUUAGAUGAUUAAUUUGUAUAAUUCACAUGUUAUUUUUAUGGGAUGAUUAGUUUGGUUAUAAUUCACAUGCUGGUAUUAAUUUAAAAAUUCAUUGGAUGAUUAUUUUGAGCAUAAUUUUUGUAAAUUUUAUUGGAUGAUUGGUUUGUAUAAUUUUAAUGUUAGUAGAGUUUAAAAUUUUAUUGAAUGAUUGCUAGGUUAAAUUCCCAUGUUGAAUGUGUUUUAAAAACUCGUUAAAAAAAUUAAAUAAAAAUUCUUUGAAUGUUUAUUAGGUUAAAUUCUCAUGUGGGCAUUAUUAUUAUUAUUAUUAUUUCAAAGAUAAAAAAACAAAAAAAUCAUUUAAUGCCAUAUUUGGUUGAAUUUUCAUGUCAAUAGUUUUUUUUUAUUAAAAAAAAAAUUGUUGAAGUUUGUUAGUUUAAACGUUUAUGUUAAUAUAUUUUUAAAAUUCAUAGGAUGUUGUUGGCAUAAUUCUUAGUUGCCCUUAUCUUGAUACUUAUUGUGUUUGUUCCUUGAAGAAUUCUUAUAUUUGAUUUAAAAAAAAAAUCGAAUUGAAAAUUACUUUUUGAAAAAAAAAAAAGGAGAAAAGAAAAAAAUUGAAUUUUUUCCAUAUUGAACGAGGCUUCUUGAUUUCAAAUGGAAGACAAUAAAAAAGAAAUAAAAAUCCUUAUUGUGUAUAUAUUGUUUGAGGUUUACUAAUUCACUUGAUCCUUUUUUUCUUCUUUGAAAAAGAAAAAACCAUCUUCAAAAGUAUUUAAACCGUCAAAAGGAUUUGGAAACAAAUACUCAUUCUAGGUUUAAGGACCAUAUUUUAUUUUCAAAUCAUGCAUUCUACUAUUUUAUUUUCAUCUAAGCUGCAUUCUACUUUUUUUUUUUUCUUCCAAAAUGUUGUUUUUUAUUCCACAUAGAUUUGAAUGUAUUAGAUAAUUUUGAAGAUGGCCACCUAACACAUGCGACCCAUCUCUAAAACCUUUCUAAAAUAAGAAAGUCAUCCAAGAAAAUAAAAAUAAUAUAAGAAAAAGGCAAAGUUGUUGCCUUUUUUUUUUUUUUUUUUUUUUUUUUGGGCCUGUAUUUAUUUAUUAAUUUAUUUUUGUCAAUCUCCUACAAGAUCAUAUCCCACUUACCCCCUUACGCAGCAAGAAGAGCGCGUGGGACACCCACUUCGACCCCACAACUUUAUGAUGAAUCUGAACCCUGUGGACAAUAAUACCACGUGCAUACGAGCCUGUAACACUCAUUUAUGGGUUUAAAUUCAUUCAAAUGAGUCAGUAGUAAAAGCUAUGAAAUAGAUCGAACCCCACCUUCUUUUUCGUUUUUAAAUUUUCUGGGGUCCCUCAGUUACUUUACAGAAGGUGGCAGAGAAAGAGAGAGAGAGAGGAGUUAUUAGAGUUACAGACGAACAAUCACUUUCAAUGCUGUUGUCUUCUUGUUGUAAGGGUAAAAUAAGAGGCAAACAAAUUAAUGAAUUCAUUAUCUUACCUUUCUAUUCAAAUGCCUUCCAAGAAAUGUUUUGAGAGCUUUGAGUUUAGUCUAUAAUAAUGGUAGUAUAUUUCAAUGAAUAUGCGUUCUAGAAAAAUAUAUACCUUUAGCAUAUACCAAGAUAUCCUAGGGUUUCAAGUCGUGUUACAACGGGGAAGUAAUAACCAAUCAAAACACAUGACUUUGUUUUCUAAAAAAUCACUCUUCUUGGAAAACAUGCAAGGAACUUAAGCAUCAUAAGUUAAGCAAUCCUAGAUGGAUGUUCGAGUAUCCAGCUCUUUUCUUUAAUCCUAGAUGGAGAGAGACAACAUCUGCUCUCUCUCCAGCAUGCAAGUGUGCGUCCUAGGCAGCUCUUUUGUGCUUUAAAUGAAUUGAAUACUUGAUCUUAUUCUGCCAUUGUUUUGGCUCAAACCUAGGAAGUAUAUUUACCCUGACUUCUUUUCAUGUCUUCAACUUACUUAAAGGCUCACAAGUCCCAUUGGAAGCAAGCAGUUAAGGAUUUUUGAACUAAAAUGAUCAAACAUAGUCUUGCUUUACUAGUAGGUUAUACUCUUUUCAACAGUUUAAAUUGCUUUUGUUGAUAGAUUAUAUGGAUGUUUUAACACUCCAAGAAAUUGGAAUGAAGCAAAAUAUGAAGAAAGAAGAAAUGACUGUCAAUGGAUAUAUUUAUUCUCUUUUAUUUCUAUUGAUACUAAAAUUUUUAGGGAUAAAGGAAUUGUUACUGUUGUCCAAAUAUUUAAAAUUCAUCUGGAUCUGCAAGAAACCUGCAAGGGAAUAUUUUCUUAGAAAUAAUGGUUUAAAUAAGGAAAAGAAAAUAUAUAGAUGAAUUGACUGAAGGUUGCAGACAAGGGACCAACGACCAGGUAAUGGAAGACUGGAGAAAGGGAUUCAUCGGUUUGAUUUUUCUCCCAGCUGGCCCAGUUGUUUAUUUCAAAGUGCAGUUUAGAACAACUUUCAACAUUUGAAUAAGGAAAAGAAAAUAUAUAGAUGAAUUGACUGAUUCAAAGGGCAUAUUACAGUCAGUCUGUGCGUAACAGGGCGGGUGACUUCAAAUGGAUACACUGAGGUCUAUCUGUGCGUGUUAGGCAUUCAUGAACCUGUUUUCUUCGGUCAAAGAGCUGCCAAUACAAGGAAAAAAAAAAUGGCGAAAAUUAAGUAAAGUAUGACUUCUGGAAGAUUUAUCGCCUUCGUAAAUGAAGUGAGAGUUUUGACCGAAUUGAAGUAAAAAAAUUAAAUGCAAAACUUCCACUAAAGCUUGGCAUCAUUUUUCAAGGUUCUUUGUCAAUCCCUCAUUCUCCAGAACCAUGGGAUUGGUAGAGAAACUCAUUCUUCUCAACCAUGGCUCUUAACCAAUGGUUAAUUACCUUGCAACAAUGCAUGAUAUUAUUGAUGAAUUGGACCUUCUUAGAGAAGCCAUUCCAAAUUAAUAACUCAUCACUUACACAUGCAAACGUGUCGCCCCGAAUUCAAUGAAUUGUUGUUAUAUGCACACGAGAUACUAUGAUCACAUUUGAUGAGUUUCAUGACAAAUUAGUCGAAUAUGAAGCCUUCCUCAUGUAGCUUAAAACCAAAUAUGUCAUCAAAGAAGAUAGCAAUAAUCACCCCCACACAAUGAUAUCUAUUAUAAUACAUUAGCUGUAUCGAACACAAAUUUCCUUCAAUAUGUGUCUCAAUAUUAAAGUCCACGUAGAAUCAGGUGUGCACCAUAUUGGGGUUGGAUAGUUAUAAGACUGAAAGGAGCAUGAGCAUAGGAUGGCGAAAGUUCAAAUGAGAAGCGUUGUAAGAUCAUUGCCAAAGCUGUUUUUGCCUCCAUCAUUGCAAAAUUUUGUCCAAUGCACACCCGAGGACCCCAACCGAAUGGUAAAAAUGAAACUUGGUUUUUUGUUGCCUUUGAAACUCCUUCAGCAAACCUCUCUGGAUUAAACUCCUUUGCAUCGUCUCCCCAAAUUUCAUGAUCAUGGUGAACUAGGAUGGUGGGCAAAGAGACCUGCACUCCGGCUGGAAAAUACAUGUCUCCCACUUGAGUGUCCUUAGAAACCAUUCUGGUAAGCACUGUUACUGGUGGAUAUAACCUAAGAACCUCAUGAAAAAUCAUGGUAACCUGUGGUAGAGAAACUUUAGAAGUUGUAGCAUGAAAAUUGUUACUGAAAUACAUCUUAAAUCCUUAUGAAGGACACUGACGGAUAAAGGAAUUGUUUAAAAUAGUAAUGCAGAAGAGAUAUUGGUCUAAAUCAUGCAUGGCAUGAUGUCAAGUAUACAAAGGAUAUAAUAAUUUUAGAACCUCAUGAAAAAUCAUCAUAAUCUAGAGAAAUUUCAAGUCAUGGCAUGAGAAUCCAUUCCUGAACUAUAAGUAAAUGAAAGAAAAUGUUCAGUACAAGAUAAAAAAAAUAAAAAAAAAGUUAUGCGUUUUCAUUUUUACUCCAUUUAUUUUUCUCUUUUUUUUUUUCCUUUUGUGUGUGUGUGUGUGAGGGUGGGGGUGGUGGGUGGAAUAGAGUGGACUGAGUACUCACAAUUUUUAGGUGGUUUAAGCCAUCAUUUUCAGGUUUGUUAUUCCCAAAAACCUGUAAAACCUCUUCUCUUGCACGAGCUUGCCAGUCUGUAUGUUGGCUUAGCAGGACCAUUGUCCAUAAAAGCAAAACUGAGGUUGUCUCUUGGCCAGCAAGAUAGAAUAGCUUACAUUCAUCAAUGACAUCUUUGGCACUCAUUCCAAUCUUCGUGUUAUUUUGAUGUUCUUGAAUUUCUCUAAAAUUGGAUUCCAUUAAUAUACCUAAUAAGUCACUAUUAGCAGUUUCGCCAGCCUCCAUUGCCUUCUCCCUUUUGUUGAUGAUGCCCCCCAACAAUGCAUGUACUUCUUUGCUUAUUUGCUUCAUCCUCUUGUUCGUCUUUGUGGGAAAAAACCUGCAACUUAGUAAUUCCAGUAAAUAAAAGAUCACAUGAAGAACACUGACAUUAAUUUUUUGAAGCUUGUAUAACACUUCAUAGGCAGAAACUAUCAGACAAUAACUAAUGGUUUCAUCUACACAUGUAUUGCGGUGGCAUCUUAUCAUCUUGGCACAAUAUCUGGCCAACACAAGGCAUGGGGAUGCUAGACCUCAAUUUAUGAAACACACUACUUUCUAAGUGCUACACAGAAAGAACAGAAAGAACAGUCCUAGUAAAUGAAGUAUAAAGGCAUGAAAACAUAAAAUUGUCCAGGUAAAUGAAGACAUGCAAUGAAGAAGAAAACUAUUGCAGGCUACACAAAUCACAACCACAUAAAUCAACCACCCACCCAUUUUCAAACUUCCAGCUCUCAUGCACUGGCACAGUUCGGUCCUCUUAAAGAUUAAAGUAGGCAUCUAAAAUUUUAUUGGUUUCAAGGAAGAGAACCUUUUUAUUCUAAAUAUUUAAUAGUAGAUUCCUUUCUUAGCUUACCAGUAUAUAUAUAAAUUACUCAGGACCUUAAGAAGUUGAUAUUAUAAUUUAAACAAUGUUAUAUCAUGUGUAUUAGGAGAGAACCAAUCUCACCCACAAAUAAAGAGCACUCAAUUGUCAAUUCUUAAGUUUAUGACUAAUAUAUGUAUACUUAUAUAGUUUAUGUAUCUUUUGGAAAGUCAUGUGUAUAUUUAAAAGAUUAUAGUGUACACCAAUAAUAAUAUACCUGCACCAUUCAUCUAUGCACCUCCUAGAGCUCCCAUGAGUUCUUUUUUUCUCCUUCAUCCUACGUUUCACCAUGGCUGAAGCAAGCUCAACCAGGCUAUCCCACCUUCCCUUACCUAUCAAUACCACCAUGAACCUUAACAAUCUCAUUGCCAUCAACACAAUUAGCUAGCCAACUUCUACUCAAGCUCAUCCUCACUAACUAUUACUCAUGGAAAACAUAGUUUGGUGCACUGCUCUUUGGAUAUGACCUACUUGGCUACAUUGACGAAAUAAAGCAAGGACAAACAAAUCUCAAUCCUAACUAUACUUUUUGGACAAGUAGGACAAACUUCUUCUUCUAGGGAUCAUCGGCUCUCUCAGCCACAAAGUCGUACCUGUGGUUCAUUCAUGCAAAACUUCCACUAAAGCUUGGCAUCAUUUUUCAAAGCUAUGUCAAUCCCUCAUUCUCCAGAACCAUGGGAUUGGUAGAGCAACUCAUUCUUCUCAACCAUGGCUCUUAACCAAUGAUUAAUUACCUUGCAACAAUCCAUGAUAUUAUUGAUGAAUUGGACCUUCUUAGAGAAGCCAUUCCAAACCAAUAACUCAUCACUUACGCAUGCAAACGUGUCACCCCCGAAUUCAAUGAAUUGUUGUUGUUAUAUGCACACGAGAUACUAUGAUCACAUUUGAUGAGCUGCAUGACAAAUUAGUGGAAUAUGAAGCCUUCCUCAUGUAGGAAGAGCUUCGCUCCACUAGCAAUCUUGGUACCAUUAAAGUCAACAAUACACAAUUUUCAUCUUCCCAUUGUGACAAAAACGCUAGCCAAAAAUAUUUCCCUAGUAGGAAAGGAUACCAAGGCCAGCGUCCUCCUCAUUUUGGGAAUCAACACCCCAGCAAGAAAGCCACUAUGAUUUGCCAAUUCUCUGAGAAGAAAGGUCAUACUGCUUGCUAGUGUUACAUUUCUAAGAAAUUGUUCCUUUCAUCCACACCUACUACUAGUCCAAUUAUCCCCACAAACAACUCCUUAACCAAUUGGUUCGUAGAUAUCAGUGCCUCACAUCUUGUUACAUUUUAUCUUAACAACUUGUCUCUCUGCCAACCAAUGAAUCUUGUCAUUAAUAUUUUUCACAUUUCCUAUACUUGGAGGGUUGUUCCAAGAUUAAAUAAAGUAUUUUCCCAUGCUAGUCUAAAUAUAGUCUUUUCCUUUUCUUGGAGGGUUGUUCCAAGAUUAAAUAUGCUCAGUUUCAGAAUUGAGAGGACUUUUUCAUAUUGCUAAGAAAAAAACUUGUGAGUUUGAUUUUUCUAUCAAAGGUUUAUCUCUAAGGUGGAUUCCUCUGAGUGGUGAGCUUAAUUGUGAGUUCUUAUCUGUAAGGUGAUGAAUUUCUUAUCCUUAAAAGUGGUGAACUUGUGUUAUUAGCUCAUCAUUUUAUUUCCUUAAAACGGUAUCAUUUUGUGUUGGAAAAUGUAGUUACAAGCUUCCUUCAAGUUUCUCAUGUAUCAACCCACAAUCAACUUGUAGAUAUACUCAACAAACCAUUGCCCAAGUCCCACUUUACAUUCUUUCAGUCCAAGAUUGGCGUUUUUUAUGGAAGCACCAUCUUGCAAGGGCAUAUUAGGAGAGAACCAAUCUCACCCACAAAUUAAGAGCACUCAAUGGUGAAUUCUUAAGUUUAGGAGUAAUAGAUGUAUAGCCUUGUAUAGCUGUUGUAUCUUUUGGAAAGUCAUGUGUAUAAGAUUGUAGUGUACACCAAUACUAAUAUACUUUCACCAUUCAUCUAUUUACCUCUUUAAUGUGGAAUGACAACUGCACCAAAAGAUACUUUGGUGCCUAUACAUCCAUUAGUUUUUCAAUUAAACUGUUGAACAAAUGCCAUGAAUUGAGGUACUUUUGAGAGAUAAGAAAGCUCUUACCUUCAUCAAUUAAGCAAUGAAUGAAGGUACUUUUGAGAAGAUUUUCAGUGCAACCAUAACCAAGGAAGUAUGAGAGAUAUUACAUUUUAAGUACACAUAACAAAGUUAACAAUACACAAAAGGUUAAUCUUCAAACUCUUAAAAGAGAAUUUGAAAGUUUGAGUGUGAAAAAAAAAAUUGAAUUAAUCUCUAAUUAUUUUUCUAGAGUAUUAGAUGUUGUGAGUUUACAAUAAAAAUAUGUCAAAAGUUUGAAUGAUAGUUAUGUGGUAAAAAAAUAUGUUUAAUCUUUAGAUUCCAAAUAAGUUUAACUAAAUUGUUGUUGUCAUUGAAGAAUCUAAACAUUUAGAUUCUAUGACCAUUGAUAAACUCAUGAGACCACUAUAAGCUCAUAAAAAGAGAUUAAAAAGAAAUAACUAAGAAAAAUUGCAGCUUUUUUAAGCAAAUUAAACUUACACUAAAGGAGAAUGAUGAAAACAUUAGUUAAAGAAGUCAAAACAAUCAUGGAUAUGUCGAAGACGUGGUCAUAGACAUGGCUAAGACAAUAGAAGAAGAGAUAAGUUUAAUUUAUCAAACAAUGAAAUAACAAGUCAAAAUUCACAUUCCUUAGGAGGACAUGAAAGAUGACACAACUUAAGGCACAGUAAAAGAAGAGGAUAUGAUAAAUUUCAAAUUGAAUGUUAUAAUUAUAAAAAAAUAUGGUCAUGAUGCUUAUGAAUAUAGAAAUGCUACAAACAAUAUGAAAAGACACCUCCAAGGUACUAAAAAUAAAGAUCAAGAAGAACCAACCUUAUUAUUGGCAUAUAAAGGAGAAAGCUAGGAGAAAAUUACAUGGUAUCUUAACCUCUAAGUAAAAUCAUAUGUGUGGAUUCAAAAAUGUGUUUGUAGAGCUUAAUGAAUUUGAAAGUGGCAAUUUUGCCUUUGGGGCUACAUGUAAAAUUCCAAUAAAAAGAAGAGGUAAAAUCUUGAUUCAUAUGAAAAUGGAAGGCAUAUUUCAAAUGUCUACUAUGGUGUAACAUGGAAAACAAUAUAUUAAGUUUAGGUCAACUCUUAUAAAAGGGCUAUGAUAUUUAUCUCAAAAAUAAAAGUGUCUUAAUAAGAUACUAACAUGCCAAUAUAAUUGGUAAUGUGCCCAUGAUAUAAUGUUUUUGAAUAACAUUCAAAAUAAUAUUGUAAAAUGCCUAAAAUCUCAUGUCAAUAAUUCCUCUUGAAUUUGACACUUAUGAUUUGAACAUCUUAAUUUUAGAGGAUUGAAAUUGUUAAGCAUGAAAAACAAUGAAAUAAUUGUUCUUUAAUAAUUUGUGUCAAUUGUGUGAAAGAUGUUUACUCAGAAAAUAUGUCUAAAAAAGUUUUCCAAAGGAAGAAACAACAAGAGAAGAAGCUUUCAGUGCUCAUUAAUGUGGAUAAUCCAGUUUUAAUUUUUAUGGGUGAUUCUAGUAAAAAAUAAAAAAUAAAAAAAUUUGGUUGUAUCUUUAGCUCAAAAAUUUGUUGAAGAAACUUAAUUUACCACAAGAGAAACCAAUAAACAUCUAUAUGAAUAUAAAAUUGGUGAUUGCCUUAGAAAAGAUAUCUAGUUCUCCAUGAUUGAAGCAAGUAUAUUAAUACAAAAUAUCAUUUAUUAGAAAGUAUAUUAUGAAACAUGAAGUACACAUAAAAUUUGCAAAAUCUCAUAAUCAAAAUUUGAAAAUGCUUAUAGAGCCUCUCAAGUUUAAAGAUUUUAGAUAGCUAAGGAUGCUACUUUUACAAAUCAAGUUGAAAAGGGCAUGUAAGUUUAACUAUAUUUAGAAAGUUUCUAAAAAUUAGAAUUUGAGUCUUUCUAAAUAUUAAUUAAAAUAUUUUAUAUUAAAAGGUUGAUUUAGUUUCACCCUUAGAAUCUAAGCCUUUCAAAGUGCCAAUAGUUGUUAGUUGUAGAUAAGGCUUUCCUUUUUACAGCUCUGGGUUCUAAUCUAUAUAACCUCCUAAUGGUACAAAGUGCACCUUUUUCAUAGAGGCAAGUAGUAACCUAUUGUUAGCCCCUUGAAAUGGACUAUGAGGCACUAAGGCCUCAUGGGGCAAUAGCUUCACAUCAUGAGUAACCUAUGAUGGCAAUAAGGUGGCACAGGGGUACAAUUCCUUGUGCAAGGAGAUGGCUUGGUGAGCCAUGGGCGUAAUGCCAUGAUAGGUACAACACUAAAAGAGACUUAGAUGAGCAUAUUGUUGUGGUGACUUAGAUGAAAUACAUGAGGGUGCAAUGCCUUGUGCAUGGGGAGUCAUAGGUGCAAUGCCAUGACAUGUUGCCAGACCAAGAAGAGGGUUUGGGCAAAGCAUAGAGUCACAACAUCAACAAGGUGAAUGUCGGAGCAUGUUGCCUCAACAUGGAUGCAAUCUAGAUGUGUAGGCCAAAAGAGAACUUAACAUGCACAUGAGCCAUUUAUAUAGAUUCCUACAACAACAACAUUCAAAGUUGGACUCGAAGUAGGAUUGCAAGUCAAGCAUGAGUAGGAGUCUUGAUGUGAAUUGUAAUUGUAGUAUGAUUAGGACUAGGACUUAGAGUCUACGUAAGAGUGUUUAUUUCCAUAACCUAUUAAGAAAAGUCCUUAUAUAACUAGGAGUAAAACUCCUAGUCUAACAGAGAGCAGGUGGUGCCACUCUAUAAAUAGGGAGGGUUGGAUAGACUUUAGAGAGAGAUCAAGAGGAAGCCUGAACUACCAAAAGUAUUGUGGAAGUGUAGCUAAAGUCUUGUAUUCUUAUUCAAUAAGUUAAUAAAAUAUAAUUUAGGGUUGAUGCCCUAUAAAUCUUGUGUAUUGCCUUGCGUGUUGUCAUCUAGUGGGGAAAGGUGUAGGUUAGCUUAGAGAGCUUCUAAGUAUUUGCAUAGAUGUGAAAGUUUAUGUGGGAAUUUUGCACCUAUGACAAUUGGUAUCAGAGACUAACAAGCAAAUGGUUGGGGGAAGUACUAUAGAGACCUUAAGAGAAAGGAGCUCAAGACUAGAAGAAUUGUUAGGGGAAUAACAAGGUGAUAAGUUGGUUGGCUUGAGAAUCCUUGAAACAAUUGAAGCACACUAGUUCAACAUAGGAGUAUAUCGAGGAAUUUAGUUCCUUAAUGCUCGACAUAAAAAAUAUGUCCAAUGAGGACAAAUUGUUCAACUUCAUGUUUGGAUUGUAGGGAUGGGCCUAAAUUGAGUCACAAAGAUAAUGGGUGUGAGAUCUUUCUAUUAUAAUCAUUGCAACAGAUUGUUUGGUAGUCUAUAAGUUGAAUGGUGUGAACUCUACAAAUCAGAAACCUAAACUAGAUGGAGCAAAGAAACCUAAUAAAGAGGGGAAAUCUUCUAAGAAGUCAUAUGAGAAGAAUUUGAAAAAGCCUGCAGCAUCGUAAUCGAAUGAAAAAACUACUAAGUAUGGGUAGCAAACAACCAAACCCAUGGGUUGAUUCAUUUGCAUGGCCCUCACUGUGCUAAGAAGUGUCCAAAAUGGGAAAAACUAUCAGCCCUUAUGGCUACUAAAAGUAGUGGUGAUUCUGACAUGGAUACACCUUUAAGAGUUAAUCCUUCAUAGCUCUUGAACAUAAUCCACGCAAAUGCACUAAUUCAAAAAGGGUUGAUUCAUGUCCAAGUGCUAGUAAAUGGCAUGUAGGUAAAACCAAUGAUGGACAGAAGGGCAACCCAUAAUUUUGUGGCUAGUAAGAAGCCAAGAAGCUCAGUUUGGAACUAGAACAAUACACUAUUAAGAUCAAGGCAAUAAAUAGCAAAGCCCAACAAAUUAAUGACAUUACCAAAAAAGUCUCACUCUAAGUCGGAAAUUGAGAAGGCAACUAUAGCUUGCUAUGUGUACCCUUAAACGAUUUUGAUUUGAUCUUAGGGAUCGACUUUUUCCUUAAGGCUAAGCCGGCAUUGCUCCCAUACCUUGGUAGGUUAAUGAUCAUGGAUGAGAGUCAACCUUGGUUAUUUUUUCUAUAAAGGAAAAAGUCAUAGAGAAAGGUCAAACCAAGAUGGUUUCUACGCUUCAAAUAAAGAAAGGGUUGAAGUGUGGGAAUGUCACGUAUAUUAUAACCUUGGUUGAGAACAAAGCAGAUCAUUCAAUGGAGGUGCCACAUAGUGUAGCCCAUAAUAAAAAAGAAUUUAAAGAUGUGAUGCCUACAAAAAAACCCAAGGAGUUGCCUCCUAAGCACCAUAUAGACCAUAAAAUUGAGUUGCCACCUAGGACCAAACUUCCUACUGAUCAGGUCUCAUAUUGGAUGUCACCUUCGAAUUACUUGGGUUAAGGAAGUAAUUGAAGAAACUGUUGGAUGCAGGCAUGAUCCAAUCUUCAUGGGUUCCCUAUGGUACUCCUAUUCCAAAAGAAGGAAGAUGGGACCCUAUAGAUGUGUGUUAAUUAUUGGGCCUUGAACAAAGUAACGAUCAAGAACAAGUAUCCAAUCUCCUUAGUGGUAGAAUUAUUUAAUAAAUUGGCCAAGGCAAAGUUUUUCUCCAAAUUGGACUAGUGGUUAGGAUACUAGCAAGUAAGGAUUUUAGAGGGGAACGAAAAAAAGACUACAUGUGUAACCCGCUAUGGGUCAUAUCAGUUCCUCAUGAUGCCAUUCAAACUAACUAAUGCCUCAAUAACAUUCUACAACCUAAUGAAUGAUAUGCCAUACGAGUUCCUAGAUGCCUUUGUUAUGGUUUGCUUCAAUGCAUUAUUGUUUAUAGCAAGACCUUAGAAGAGCACGUGAAUCACUUGAGACUAGUGUUUCAAAGACUAAGAGAACAUGAAAUCUACGUGAAGAGAGAGAAGUGUGAGUUUGCACAAAGGCAUAUUACCUUUCUAGGAUGUAAGAUAGAGGAAGGGUUGAUCGAGAUGGAUGAAGUGAAGGUCCAGGCCAUUAAAGAUUGGCAUGCUCUAAGCAAGGUGACACUGGCAAACUACUAUUGAAGGUACAUAAGGGGUUACUUCAAGAUAGUGGCUCCCUUUACUAACCUUCUAAAGAAGGAUAUUUGCUAGGAUUGGGGGUUUGAAUGCUAGAAAGCUUUUGACAAGUUGAAAGUGGUGAUUUUAGUUAAAUUGGUGCUACAUUUACUAGAUUUGGAUAUCCUAUUUGAGGCCCAAACAAAUGCAUCAACUAAGGCCUUGAACUUGGUGCAAGAAAGGCACCCAAUAGCCUUUGAGAGUCAAAAACCUAAUGAGUUAGAACAAAGAUACUCCACUCACGAGAAAGAGAUGACAACGAUUAUCCAUUGCUUAUAGUAGUGGAAGCAUUAUCUAUUGGGGAGUAUAUUUACUAUAGAUGGUCACAGACAACAUAGUUAAUACCUUUUUCAAGAUGCAGAAGGAGUUGAGCCCUAAGCAAGCUAGGUGGCAAGAAUUCCUUGGCGACUUCAAGUUUGAAUGGUUGUAUUGACGAAAAAGACAUAAUGUAGUUGUAAAUGCCUUGAACCAAAAGGAAUUAACAGAGUAUGUAAUCACUCAAUCACAUAUGAUUUCAUAUUUUAAUGAGAAGAUCAAGCAAGCUGCUAAGCUUGAUUCUACUUAUGAGAAUAUGAAACAACAAUUCAAAGAGGGGGCUACUAAAAAUUUUUGGCUAGAAGAUGACCUCUUGGUGGCUAAAAGAGGUAGGCUAUAUGUACCAAGAAGUUGCUUACAUAAGGAGUUGCUAAGAGUGGCCUAUGAUGUCAAGUAGACAGGUCACCCUAGCAAAGAGAUGACAUCAAUAGUAUUGUCCAACUACUAUUACUAGCUAAAAAUAGGAUAGGACAUCCAGACUUAUGUUCUAUAUUGUUUGAUAUGCUAGUUGGAUAAGACAGGCAAGAAGAAAACAAUAAGGUUACUACAACCUCUCCCUAUCUUAAAGAGACCUUAGAAUAACAUAUCUGUGGACUUCAUCGGUGGCUUUCCAAAAGUGAGGGAAUUCAAGUCUAUCUUCAUGAUAGUAGAUAGACUCUCUACGUAUGUUGUUUUCAUACUUACACCACAUGCAUGUCCCGUAGAGGAGGUGACUAGGCUAUUCUUCAACCAUGUGGUCAAGUACGUACUUCAAGUUGCCUAAAGACAUAGUCAGUGAUUGUGAUGCUCGAUUCAUUGGUCAAUGUUGGACUGAGUUGUUUAAACUCCUAGGAUUGAAGUUGAAGUUCUAAAAAACAAAUGAUUCGUAGAUAGACGGGCAAACAAAGUGUAUCAAACUUAAGGAAUACCUCAGACACUAUGUUUUUAUAACACAAAAGAACUGGAUUGAUCUAGUGGAGAUAGCUCAUUUAUCCUAUAACUUGCAUAAGAGUUCAAUAAUAGGGUUGAGUCCCUUUGAAUUGGCUAUAGGGCAACCACUAAUUAUGCCUUGGAGAUGUUUAAGCAAAAGUUUGGUGGUAAUUGUCUUAUAGCUUAUAAAUUUGCAAGGUCUUGGCAGCAGAUGCUCGAUGAAGCUUGUAAAAGCUUAGAGAAGGCAUUUACAAAAAUGAAAAAGUAUGCGGACAAGGGCCGAAGACCCUCAUAAUUUAGAUUGGGGAUAGGGCCCUUCUAAACCCUCAUAUAUGGAAUAAAAUUAGCAGUAAGACUAUGUAGAGGGUGUUGAUUCCCAAAUAUGAUGGACCUUUCAAGGUGAUGUAGAGGGGGAUAAGUAGCUUACAAAUUGAAGUUGCUGGAUAGGUUAAAGAUAUACCUCACGAUCCAUGUGAGCUUCUUAAAGCCUUACCAUGAAAACCUAGACUCAAGAAGGAUACCAACAAGGCGAGUGAUUAGAAAGAAAUUUGAUCGCGAGUGAUAUCAACAAGGUAGAGAAGAUAUUAGAUCAUUGAACUGUGGGAAUGAGUAAGAAAAAUUGAAGAAUUGAUUUUCUAGCUUAGUGGAAGGAUAGUCUUGAAUUAGAGGCUAGUUCGGAAUGAGAUGUAAUGCUCUGGAAAUUUAAGGAGGUAGUCUAAGCCUACCCAUAGUCCAAGUCAAUGAGAGCAUCAACUACAUCAAGUAGAAGUGGUUUGUUAGCCCCUUGACAUGGACCAUGCGAUACUAAGGCCUCAUGGGGUGACACCUUGGCCUCUUGAGUGACCAAUGACAACAACAAGGUGGUAUAAGGGUGCAAUGCCUUAUGGAGGGAGAUGACUUGGUGAACCAUGGGCACAAUGCCAUGGUAAGUGUAGUACUAAGAGAGACUUGAAUGGGCAUAUCAAUGGGGGGCAACGAAGCCAACUUAGAUGCAAUACAUAAGGGGUGUAAUGCCUUGUGCAUAGGGAGUCAUGGGUGCAAUGCCAUGAACUAAGAAAAGGGCUUGGGCAAGGCACAGAGCUGUAACAGCAACAAGGUGGAUGUAGGAGCAUGUUGCCUUGACACAAAUGCAAUCUGAACAUACAAACCAAAAGAGGGCUUAUCAUGCACACGAGUCAUAUAUAUAGAUGCACACGGUAGUAGCAUGAAGAGUUGGACUUGAAGUGGGAUUACAUAUCAAGCAUGAGUAGGAGUCUUGAUGCCUAAUGUAAUUAUAGUCUAAGUAGGACUAGUACUCAAAUUCCAUGUAGGAGUGGUUACUGCCACAACCUAUUAGGACAAUUCCUAGUAGAACUAAGAGUAGCACUACUAGUCUAAUAAGGAGUGGGUGGCACCACUUUAUAAAUAGGAAGGGUUGGAGAAACUCUUGAGAGGGAUCUAGAGAAGGAAAUCAUAAGGGAGGUCAAAACUCACCGAAGCUAUUAUGGAAGUCUGGCUAAAGUCUUUUAUUCUUAUUUAAUAAGUUAAUAAAAUACAAGUUGGGAUUGGUGCCUUGUAAACCUCAUGUGUUGCUUUGCAUGUUGUUGCCAUCUCAUGGGGGAAGGUGUAGAUUGGCUUAGAGAGCUUUUAAAUGCCACAUAGACAUGAAAAUUUAUGUGGGAAUUUUGUGCCUAUGACACAUAACCUUUAAAAGUCUAUUCAAGGGGGACCCUUCAUCUCCCUUCAUAUAUUUAAUUAUUUGCCUGUUUUUUCAACCCUAUUAAUGCAACAUAGGUGAAUUUGCCCGAUGGUUUAUAAGAAAAUUCAUGUCAGUUAUGUUCAACAUGUUAAAUUCUACUAGGCUUAUGUAUCGGUAUGUAGAUUAUAGCUUCUUCCCCUAAGCCCAAAUUUUUCUUUGGUUUCAUGGUGUUAACAUUUCAUGAAAGUAAAUGCUCCAUUGAAGAAUAAAUUUACCUAAAAUUGAAUAUGGUGUGCUAGGACAUAGAGAUUUAUUAAAUGUUAGGAAAAUGUAAGGGUGACUUGAAACCUAAAUUUGAGCAAAUAAAAAGUCUAUUUAACAGUGCUUUUAGAAAACACUUACAUUAUAGAAAAAAAAACAUUUUUGAAGAAAAACCAAAUGUUUGACCAAAUUUAGAAAAUACUUUUAAAAAGUUCAAAAUUAAAUUAUUUGUAAUGCUUCUUGGAGAAACACUUCACAUAUUAUUCUUCCAAAAAUACUUCUAGAGAAAACCCUUCCACUAAAAGCACUUAAAAUAGAAACUCAAGCAAAUCUACUCUAAAUCUGCCGAAGCACUGCUAAAAUAAUGAAAAAACAAGCAGACUCCUGUAUAUUCAUAAAACUGAGCAGCAUAUUUCUUGAAAUAUUAUAUGAUUUUAUGCAUACCUCCAUCCUGGGAUAUAAACUGACAUUGCAACCUUGAUUGCAAGAUAUGUCUGUUCUUUCUGGAGUUGGAAUAUCCUUCUUCCUUCUUCGUAGCUACUGCCAAAUGCUGUCCGAGAAAUCACAUCCCCUGUCAAAUUUUCAAGAUAGGGCCAAACAUCCAACUCACAUGAUCCCUUCACCGAAAGCUUCUUCCAUUUGUUCAACAUGUCGCUACAACUCAAAUGAAAUGCCGGUAACAUAUUCUAUAACAAGUUCAACCACAAAAUAAAUUAAUAAAGACGAAGAACAUCUCUUCGUUGGUAAAAUUAUGGAAACGGCCCAUUGGAGAAAGAGGGAAAAAGACUCUAUAUGAGUAUGUGAAAAAGAAAGGGAAAAAGAAAGGAAACAGUAGGACACUUGGUAUGUGAAAAACUAGUCACCAGUACUUCAUUAAAAUGACUGAAAUAUUUGGGAAUUCUGAUGUUUAUACAGGUUUUUAUAGGAUUAAAAAUAAUUUUUCAAUUACUUCCAUAUUUAAAAAUAAAAAAUAAAAAAAAUUAGAAAGUUUUCUGGAUGGAAAGCUAGGUUAAUGAUCUUUCUGGAAACUAAGGUAAAAUAUUGUCGUUUGAAAACUGGGCAUUGAAAAUUACCUUCAACUUUUCUGGAUGGAAAACUGGGUUGAUCAUCUUUCUACGUUUGGCCCAUUGUUCACCUUCCAAAACCACUAGACCAGAAACCAGCAACUUGACCAACGGGUGUGAGGGUGUCUUUUGAAAGAUAUUGGACUUCAACAAAACAUCCCUCAUUAGCUCAGGCUCCAUAAUGUUUACCCUUGGACUUGGACCCACCCAUGUAAAGAAAUUUUUUCCUGCAUGUUUAUGCCAUUAUUGGAUAGUGUUAGUCCGGAUUGCUUUUAGUUUGGAUAAUUGUUUUAAAGACCGACUGGUUUGAGCAGUCAGACCGUCGACUGAAAGCAAAUUUGAUCCGGAUCAGCAAUUGAGCCGGUAGGGCUAUUGAACCGCCAUCGAACCGGACGACCCAGCCGUUGAACCAUUGACCUGGUGAACUGGGUCGCCGGUUUGGGCCUGGACCUAUCUCUAAGUGAAACUCUUUCGGCCAAAAUGGGCCAUGGUUUUAGGUUGAAAUUGGGCGAGUGGGCUACCGCUUGGGCCACUCACAGACAUCCACACUCAGGGCAAGCCGACUAUAUAAAGAGAUGUUUAUUCCUCAUGCCAUUCAGAUAUGGGACUAACUUGGGAAAAUUAGGAUAUCAUGACUAUACUAUUUAUGCCUUAUGUAAACAUUUCCACAACACUAGCUUAAAAAAAAAAAAAAAAAAAAAAAAUCUUCCCAAAAUUUUUAUAAUAAUAAAAAUGCAAACAAUUUAAAGUAAACUAAUAUAAUUUUUUAAAAACUAUAAAAUAAUAAGGUGUAUAACUUUUAAUAUCUUUAUAUAUAUAUAUAUAUAUAUAUAUAAAUUAAAUAACUUCACAUCUAAAUAUUUUAUAUAUUUUAUUUAAGAAAAUCUUAAAAUAUUAAUACAUCUACAUAUUAAUUUAAUAAUAUUAAAUAAAAAAUAAAUAUUAUUAUUUUUUAAUUUCUUUAUAUAUUUAAAAUAUUUUAAAUUUUAAUAAUAUAUAAAUUACAUAUUUAUGAUAUCAUUGAUUUGACAAUCAGUUUAAUCAGUGAAUCGUAAGUUGUUAACUUUUUUGGUUUAAUAAUCAAUCCAAUUCUAAAACCGUCGAUUUGGACUACAUAUACCAAGUCUUCUCGAGCUUGUAAUAAAAGAUAAAGAAGAUGAAAUUGUAACAUCUCAAAAUUUGAGCUUGUGGCAUAUGGAAAUCAAUCUAUACAUAAUUACUAUGUAUAUAUUAUCAAAUAUAUGAAUGUAGAAGCUAUUUUAAUUAUCAACCAUAGAAUUGGCAUGGAAUAUUAUAACAUCCCAAAGGUGCGUUGACUUGAAACAUCCCAAAUUAAUUCUAACACUUAAAAAAAAAAAAAAGCAAAAGGUGAAAAAGGAAAAGAAAAAUAGUUAGGAAGAGAAGAACAAAAACUAAACAAAUGAAUCCGGAAUACUAAAAACAUAGAGUAAAUGAUAGGAUCAAGAUACAAAACAAAUGGGAUAAAGAUAGGAUCAAGACACAAAAUAAAAACUCAUAUUUAGCUUUCGAUAUGAUUCAUUUGAUAAGGAUAAUAAAAGAAAAAUAAAUAUAUAAUAUUAAUUGUUUUAUUUAUACAUCAUCACACCGUCUCUAUAUGAAUACCAUCUUCCUAAGAAGAAUAACAUGACUAACAACAAUCCACGACAAUAGUUUUGGAACGAUUGCCAUUUGUUUGUUAAUAUUCUAUUGUCUUGCUAGUAGGGCAUGGACAGCUUUAAUAAAGUAAUUUUUUAGGAGAGUGCAUGUCAUUGGAUUCUUAUAAGGAUGCAUGCCUGUAUCUAGGCUUCAAAUUUAACGUUUUAUCGGUUAAUAAUGCAUUGGGCUCCUCCCAUCCGAUGUUUGAUAGGAUGGAUAAGAAGAAGAAAGUGAAGUAAGAUCAAAAUAUCUGAUCACAUUUAUUUAAAAACUGAAUAGGACAAAUGGGUGAAAUGAUUAGUAGUGAGUCGCCCGGGAUAACACGGUCUGGGACAUUCAUAAUUGCAUUCUUUAUAGCUUCAUUAUUGUUGGUAGACAGUUGAGUGCAUUGUCUUUGACCAUUCCAUGCUAAGCAAGAAUGAUAAAAUUAAAUAGCAGAGAAAAAGAGAAGAAAAAUAAAAGAAUGGUACUUAUACGAAGGUGCUAUGCAGUCUAACAGUACCUGAAGAGAAAGAGUUGGCAAUCAAACAAGGAACAAUGCCUAAGUAUAGAGGAAGUGCUCUGUGCAGAACCUCUACACACGCACAGGGUACUCUACACAAAGAGAUGGCAAAGGAGAACCCUACACAGAGGCCUGCGCAAGUGAUGUGCAUAAUCAGAGAAGAGAAAACGUGCAUAUAUAUAUAGAUGGCCUGCACGAAAUCUGCGCAAAGAGCAUAUAUAUAUAUAUAGAGAGAGAGAGACACACACACACACACGCACAGGGUACUCUACACACAGAGAUGGCAAAGGAUCCUCCUCUGCGCGCACUCCUAGGGCAAUGAAUCCCAAGCACAAGGAGUUCCUGGAGUAGAGAAAGCACGAACGGAGUUAUGAGGUAGCAUUUCUUGAGGGCUCAAAAUUCUGAUAAUGAGUGAUACCUAGUAUCGAAAUUUUGAUACUCAUGUUGAUACCAUGUAACAAAGAGACUUCUCAUGCAUAUAUUCUAGGAGGUAACACUCAACUAUUUUUUUUUUUUUAAAGAAAAUACUAACCUUUUCAUGGUAUCAGAGCCUCCAAACCUACCAGCCAAGAAAAAUGUCUUCACACAUACUUCCAUCCUCCACCCUACAAAUAGAACCUGAAUCAAACUUUCAAUCCUUUCACCAAUGUUCUAGCUUGAUCUCCAUCAAACUGAACACCACCAAAUUUCUAUUGUAAUGCAACCAAAUCGCUCCCUUAGUUUGUAGCCUUAGUGUUCUACAUUAUUUGUCAAAUAGAGAAAAAUUUGCUGAAGAAGUUAAGAAUGACAAGGAGGAAAAAUCUCCAAACUCGAACUAUCAAAGGUGGAUCAACAAUGAUGGACUUUUAACUUCAUCGCUUCUUGGAACCAUAAAAGAAAAUGUCUUAAACUUGAUUGGUGGUGAGCCAGUUUAUCAAGUGUGGAAUUCCCUUGAGGAGUAGUCAUUGCCAAUUACAGUAAAGAAUGAAAGGAAUUUGAAAAAUAUGUUAAUAAUCAUUACAAAGGGUUUUCGAUCUCUUGAAGAAUACUUGACCAUAACAUUCAUUGCUAGUAUUUCAUGCUUAUGAGUUACUCAUUUCAGCCUUUCUUGGACUCUUCAUGGUUCACAAGUCCCAAGUCUUUUAGUUAUGCAUGUUUAACCCCUUCUACUUGUUUGGUUGAUAUUGACUUUUGUACUUAUCAUUUUUUUCAUCUCUUGAACCUGAAUUAGACUCAAAAUGGAAAUUAGAUUCAUAACUAGGGUCUUAGCAUUAAUUUGAGUUAAGUUAGAUAAUUUGAGCUUUUUAUAUUGUAUAAAUCAUAUCAUAUAUAUAUGUCAUUGGAGCAUAUAUUUGGUUCUAAUUAACUGCAUAGGGAAUCCUAGAUCUCUUUGUUCCCCAUCAUAGGACUAGGUUAGGAGCAUGAAAUCUACAUAGGGCAUUUAGAUCCUAUGAACGAAAGCAAAAAUAUAAUUUCUAACAUUGAAGGAUCUAGAAAAGUGUCAUAAAAAACUUUACCUUUGAUUUGGAUUUUCCCAAAUCAAAUCCAAAGUCAUUGGAAGCCUCGUAAACCUAUUAUCUUUUGUCCUAUAACUCUACCUCGAUCCUCAACACUCAAACAAUAAAGUGUUUGGGAAGGUGAAGGCUAAAGCUCUCUCUUCUCUUUAUAUGGUGGAAGAAUACUAACUAGAAACCCUAACCCCUAAGAGGAUAUUUAUAAGGUUCCUUACUAGGCUUAAGUGACUUAAGCCCAGUAAGGGCUUGGGUCACUUAAUACAACCUAAAAGGGUCUAAAUUGAUUUAUUAACCCAACAAAGUUGUCUAAUUAAUUAAUUAGUCCAAUCCAAAGAUACUGUUUACAAACCCCUAUGCAACCUUGUGUAAUUAUCAAAAUGUCAUUAUGCACAUAAGUAAACCUAAAGCUUAUGCAACCCUCAUAAAUCAUGUCAUCAAGGUAUAUGAGCUCUAGUAAGGACCAUUAGGACCUAUCGGAGUACUACUCUCUCAAAAUCCAAUUAUGAAGUUCAUUCAACAUCUCACUACAGAGAAUCAAUUACACUUUGAUACUCUAUGUAAAUAACAACAAGAUGAUGCUUAGGUUCAUGAGUUACUACCCAUUACAUGCAAACUCUCCAUGAACUAGUGUCCAUAAUUUAACAAGGUAGUAUUAUCACAUAUUAAGAUUACCUCUCUAAUCGUUGAGUUAUAAAUCCAUCUAUUAUUUGAUCAAUUGACAUACUCUAACUCCAAGGAGUAUAUGUCGAAUUUCACUAAGUGAAAAGCUAAUGGUCAUAGUCUUCUCAAUGACAUGUCCUUUGGAUCACCUAAGGGAACAUUGUUGGAAUUGACCAUCAAGAUGGGUUUCACAUGAUGAGUGUACUAGUAUGGAUAGUUACAUAUCGUAUAGGAUCAAUGGUGAAUCAUAACAUAAGACUAUUGAUUGUCAUGAUUCACCAAGUUACUAUACUGUAUCAACUCUCAACCUUAAAAUGAUAUCGAGCUUAUGCCAAAGUCAACAAGAGGAGGCUUUGACCUAUGGGUGAGAUCCUAAGGUGGUCACAUAUCCCUAUGGAUUGGAACACUAUUGAUGAAGGUUGGUAGCACUAGGCUUUCUCAAUAAAGGGACCAUGAUAUUUCAUGGGACUGAGACAAUGUAUUGCCUUGGGUAAUCUAAAGGACAUGUGAAAGAAGACUAUGGUCAUAACAUUUUCUUCAAUAAAAAUUUGAUGUAUGCUCCUUAGAGCUAGAGUAUGUUAAUAGAUCACAUAAUAAGUAGAAUCUAUAACUUAAGAAUUAGAGUGUUAUUCUUGAUAGGUAAUAACACUAUCUUGUUAGAUUAUCGACACCAAUUCAUGGGGAGUCUGGAUGUAGUGGAUAGUAGGUCAUAAACUUCAGUUUCAUCUUAUUAUUAUUAUUUACAUAGGGUACUAGAAAGAAAUUGAUUUUCUUUAGUGGAAUAUUGAAUCAACUUUAGAAUUGGAUUCUAAGGGAACCAGUACUCUUAUAGAUCACAAUGGUCCUUGCUUUGAGCUCAUAUACUAUGAUACAGUUUAUAAGAGUUGGAUUGGAUCUAGGUCCACUCUUGUGCAUAAGAGAAUUUUGGUAAUUACAUAAGGUUGCAUAUGCAGUAGUGAACAAGUUCUCUAGAUUUGGUUAAUUGAUUAACUAGAUGACCCUAUGUGGUUAAUUAAUUAAUCAAGACCCAGUUUAAGUUAGAUUAAGUGACCCAGGCCCUAUUCGGAUCAAGACACUUAAAUCCAGUAGGAGAACCCUAUAAAUACUAUUGAAAUUGAGCCCUAAAAGCAAGACAUGAUGUAACAAAGUCAAACUUGACUCUCCCCUUGUUAUCCUUUUAUGUAUUGACAUUGAUUUGAGCAUUCAACUCAUAUCUCUUACAUUAUCAUGACUUAGGUGCAUUGGGAGUUGCAAAGAGGAGACAAGUCAUGGGCUCCUUGUAAGUAGAUAAAAUGUCCAUAUUCAGUUUAUGGACUUGGGCAAUACAAUAAAGAUUGUAAUGCACUACCUCCUAAUUGGAAGGAUGGUUUGUCUUGAUCAUAGAGAUAGAUUUCCCAUGGUGGGUGGACUAGUGUAUGUGAUACACAUUAGACAAGACCUACAUUAAAUCACAACAUAAGACUAUUAGUUGUUAUGAUUCACUAAGAUAUUGUACUAUAGGAACUCUCAAUCUUGAGAGGAUAUUAAGCUUGUAGUAAUAUUAACAAAAGACUUUGACUUAUGGGUAAGACCCUAAAGUGGUCAUAUAUCCCUAAGGAUUAGGUUACUGUUGAUGGAGGUUGGUGGCAAUAAUAUUCUCAAUAGAGGGACCAUGAUAUCUCAUGGGUUUGAGACAAUAUGUCUCCUUAGAUUAUCCAAAGGACACGUGAUAAUGAAAUUUAUGGUCGUAAUAAUUCCUUUAGUUGAAUUUCACAUACACUUCUUAGAGUUAGGGUAUGAUAGUUAAUCUUUUAAUAAGUGGGAUUUGUAACUCAAUGAUUGGAGAUGUAAUCGUGAUAGGUGAUAACACUACCUUGUUAGAUUACGAACACUAGUUCAUGAUGAGCUUUCAUAUAGAAAAUUGUAGGUCACGGACCUAAGCUCCAUCUCAUUGUUAUUUAAAUAGGGUACUGGAGUGUAGUUGAUUUUCUAUAGUAGGAUAUUGAAUCAACUUUAUAAUUGGAUUCUAAGGGAGCUAGUACACUUACGAGUCUUAUUAGUCCUCGCUUUGAGCUCAUAUACCAUGUUAGCAUGGUUUAUGAGGGUUGGAUUGAUUCUAUGUUCACUCUUGUGCAUAAGGGCAUUUUGGUAAUUGCAUAAGAUUGAAUAGGGGUUAGUGGACAAGGUCUCUAGAUUGAGCUAAUUGAUUGAUUAGAUGGACUUAUGUUGUUAAUUAAUCAAUUAUGACCCGUUUUAGCCUAGAUUAAGUAACUUAGGACUAUAUGGGCUCAAGUCACUUAAGCCCAAUAAGGAAACCCUAUAAAUGCCUCUUCAAGGGCCAGUUAGGGUUUCCAUGACUUUAGACAAUUAUCUUCCAUCUCCAAAGAGAGAGAGAGAAAGAGAGGGAGAGAGUCUAGAUUCCCACCCUUGCAAAGCUCACACUUUGGAGUGUUAAGAUCAUGGUUUGAGUAGUCCAAAUCUAGGAACAUCCAAACUAUUUGGGCACAUUUUUCACCAAGAGAAAUUGAUCUAGGGCAUCCAGAUCUAGAUCUAUGUAUGAGUCUCUCAAUCUCUAACUAUUUAUUUUGUAAUGAUUUUUGAAGCCAUUAUUUUUAUGCACUAGAUUUAGAGAACCUAGGGUUAAAUGCAUGCACCCCACGAGAUCUAAGGCAUAGGAACAAAGUAAUCCAAGGUUCCUAAGAAAUACCCCCUUAGAGGUUAGGGUUUCUAAGGUUUUCAAUUGUCUUCAAGAUCUAGAAAGUGUAAGAGAGAGAGCUUAGGAAUCCUCCAUUCCAAAGUCCACUCUUUAGAGGUCUAAAAUCGUGGUUCGAGUAAUCGAGCAUAAGAUCUUGGAUGUAAGAGACCUCCAAACUCUUCAGGUUUCUUUUUUACCCAUGAAAUUGAUUUGGGAACAUCCAGAUCUAGAUAUGAAUGUUUCUUUUCUAGUUUUAUUAAUCUAAAUUGUUUUAAAAAUCAUGUUUCAACUCAAAUUAGUUUCUAUAGAAGCUUAGGGUAGAUUUACAUGUACCUAUACAAUCUAAGAUAUGGGAAUGGAGUGAUCCAAGGUUCUCAAUAGACACACUAUCUCACUCUCAUGAGAUAUCAUGGUGCUUCUAUUAAUAAUAUUUUUUGCUAGCUGCUCCAUAUGGAUAUAUGACCACAUUAGGGUCUCACCCAUAAAUCAAAGUUUCUUGUUGAUUUUAGCAUAAAUUCAAUAUAUUCUCAAGAUUGAGAGUCUAUAUAUCAAGUAGCUUUGUGAAUCAUGACAACUAAUAGCCUUAUGUCAUGAUUCACUAUAGGUCUUGUCCAAUAUGUAACCAUACACACUAAUGUACUCACCAUGGGAAACCUAUCUCGAUGGUCAUGAUAAGCCAUCCCUCCAAUUAGGAGGUAGUGCAUUAUAGUCUCUAUUGAAUUGCCCAAAUCUAUGAACCAACUAUAAACAACUAAUCAUCUUGCAAGGAACCCAUGACUUAUGUCCUUUAUGCAAUUCCUAAUACAUUGAAGUCAUAUACAAUGCAAGUGAAAUGACAUGUUUGUUCAGGUAACCAAUCAAUACAAAAUGGGAUAGUAAGUUGAAUAAAAAACAUAAAUAAAUAAAUUUAUUAAUGAAUCUAAAACUGUUAUAUCAUGUCAUGCUUUCCAAGGCUCUAUCCCAAUACGUUGGAUUAGGUGACCUGAAUCUAGUUUAAGCUUAAGUCACUUAAACCCAUAAGAAACCCUAUAUAAAUCCUCUCAAAGGUUUAGGGUUCACAAUUUUAACGUUUUGGCCAUCAUUUUCGAGAGAGAGUAAGAGUAAGCCCUAGCCACUCUUAAGACAAGAAGAGAAGCUCACCCUUCUGUUGUGUUAGGAUCUUUGAAGGGAGAAAUCGGAUAAAAGAUCUUUGGGUAGAUGAACUCCACAACAUCCCCAACAUCUUCUUUGACAUCUUCCUGGGAUUAGAUUCGAUUUUGGAAUAUCCAAAUUACAGGUAUGAAACUUUAACCUCUACGUCUAGAUCAUAAUAUGGUUUUAGUUACCACAUAUUUCUACUAUGUUAGAUGUAGAGAGCCUAGGACUAGAUUGCAUGGACCCUACAUGAUGCAGAGCCUAGGAAUAGAGUAACUAGUGGUUCCUAACAAUUUACAAUUAUAAAAUGAUGAAAACUAAUGUCUUUUCACCAACUAAACCUUAUAAAGCAUUGAAAUCAUUAGUUUCAUUGCAAUUUCAAGUUAAAUAUUAAAAUGCACUAAGUAUGAGUCUCACACACAAAAUGAUCCCUAAUGCUCAUUAAUAUAUGUAUAUAUAUAUUUUAUUUUUAAAAAGUCAAAAGGAUAAUGAAGAUGAUAACAAACCAAUAAUCAAAGCAAACAUUUGAUAAUGAAUAAAUAUGUUAUGUUUAGUGUCAAAAUAAAAUAAACGCUAAAUUUUCUAAUAAAAGAAUUUGAUAAUAGGUUGUGACUACAAGCUAGAUAUCAAUUUCAUAUUGAUACAAAAACAGAGCUUAAACCAAUUUGAAAAACAAGCAUAAAAUCAACAUGUAUCAAAUCGAAAUCAACAUGUAUUUCAAUAAAUUAUAAAAAAAAUCAAUACAACACUAACAAUGGUAAUGUUAUUCUUUGGGAUAAAUUAAUAUAAAAAUAAUAAAGGCUCUAAGGUAUCAAAAUAUCAUUAAUGAAUACAAAAUCUAAUUCAACCAAUUUUAGGCAUUCUCAUAUGAAUUUAGAAGUAUAAAAUGAUGAAAACUAAUGCAUUUUCACAAGCUAAACCUCAUAAAAGCAUUGAAACCAUUAGUUUCAUUGUAAUUUCAAACUAAAGAUCAAAAUGCACCAAAUAUGGGUCUCUCACACAAAAUGAUUCCUAAUGCUCAUUAAUCUAACAUAUAUAUAUAUAUAUAUAUAUAUAUAUUCAUAUAAGAUGAAAACAAAUAGAAUUCAACAAUUUUUAAAGGGCUAAUUUUUUUUAAAAAAUGAUAAUAUAUUGAAUGAAAGCAUGGAGUGUAGUUGGGGAGGCUUCAAGACUUGUUCAUAGCUUUGAUCUUUCUCUUUGAUCUCCAGUUUGACAAAGUUUCACCUCCUUUUAUUUCCAUAGAAUCGUCUCAUUUGAAAAUGUAGCUUUCUCUUUGUAUUUAUUGCUAAAAGGAUGAUGAUAAACCAAUAAUCAAAGUUAACUUUUAAUAAUGAAGUAAUAUACUAGGUUCAAUGUCAAAAUCAAAUCAACACCAAAUUCUCUAAUAAAGGAAUUUGAUAAUAAGUUGUGACUGCAAACCACAUAUAAAUUUCAUUUUGAUACAAAAACUGAGGUUGGACUAAUUCGAUAAACAAACAAAAAAUAGGUGGUUCAAGAAUUGAUUUGAAAUUAAUACUUGAUUAAAUACAACUACCCAAAUUGAUACUACUCUACAACAUAGAACCAAUGUUGAUCCCAAUAUGAUAACAAGAUCUAUGCACCAUGAAAAAUCAACAAAAAAAAAUUACCAUAGACUUGCAUUGAAUCCAAAUCAACACUAAUUUCAAUGAAGUAUUAAAAAAUCAAUACAAUACAAACAAUGGAAACAUCAUUCUUUGGGAUGCAUGAAUACAAAAACAAUUAAGACUUUGAUAUAUCAAAAUGUUAUUAAUGCUUUAGUAAAAAAAUCUAAUUCAACAAGUUUUAUCAAUUUCCAUUUGAAUUUACAAGUAUAAAAUGAUGGAAACUAAUGCAUUUUCAAUAGCUAAACCUCAUAAAAGCAUUAUGUAGACUUUCCUUUUUGUCCUCAUAACACAUGCUUUUAAUUGUACUUAGUACCCCUCAUUUUUUAGCAAUUUAAAUUUUUUUUUUUGGUUAUAAAUUAUAUGAAUGUUUUAACACUUGGAGAAAUUGGAACGAAGCAAAAUAUGUAGAAAAAAGAAAUAAUUAUCUAUAGCUAUCUUUAUUUUAUUUUUUAUACGUUUCUAUUGACAUGGAAUAAAUCAUCAAUAAUUGUUGUGAUUAAUAGCGUUGAGAAAAGUCAAUGGCCAUAAUAAUAUUCUAUUGCCAUUUUUUUUUUUGUAAAAUAUUAGAUCAAAUCACAUCUUCUUGUAAAAUUAUCAUUAAGAUUUACAUGAUUUCUUACAACGUAGCUUAAAACCAAAUAUUUCAUCAAAGAAGUUAUCAAUAACCAACCCCACACAAUGAUAUCUAUUAUAAUACAAACUUCUUCAAUAUGUUUGUUUGUGAGUGUAAAGAAAGAAAGGUAACAGAAAUUGAGAAAGUAAAAUAAAAGAAAAUUUUUCUCUUUUUUUGUUUUAUUUUUUUUUUCUCUAUUUAUUCUGCUAUUUACAGAGUAAUAUAUAAAGUAAACCUAACUAACAAAUUCUCUAACUAUUCAUCUAACAAUAAUAGAAGAAAACCAAUGAGCAUAUGACAUGUGUACAUCUUGUAACUAUAUGAAACUAUCUCUUAACAUUCUCCCUCAAACUUAAGGUAGAAAGAUUUUCUACUUUGAGUUUGUUUCUUAGAUUUACAAACUAAGUGCUUAAGACAGCUUUCAUCAAGACAUCUACUACUUGAUCAAUGGAAGGCACUUGUUAGAUUAAAACCUUUCUUUGCAGAACCUUUUCCCUAACAAAAUAUAAAUCCAAUUCAAUGUGUUUUGUCCUAGCAUGUAAUAUUAGAUUAACAACCAACAUAAUAGUGCUAAGAUUAUCACACCAAAUAACUGUUGUUGUAGGCAAAGUGAUUUUAAUUUAUGAGAGAAGAGAUAGUAACCAAGUGAUUUCUGCAACCAAACCAGUUAGGCUUCUAUACUCUGCUUUUGUACUUGAUCUAAAAAUAGUAUGUUAUUUCUUUUACUGCUAAGUGACUAAAUUUGAACGAAAAUAUACAAAAAAUCCUAAAGUUGAUCUUGAGUCAUAAAGAUCAGAGGCCUAAUCGACAUCACAAAAUGCUACAAGAUCAAGAGUAGGAGACUUUCUUAAAUAUAAUCCAUGAUGAAGAGUUCCUUCAAGUAUCUAAGAAUUAUUUUGACUACUUUCUAAUGAGAUUCUAAUGGAGCUUGCAUAUAUUGACAAACUUUAUUAACACUAUAGGCAAUUUCAGGCCUAGUAAUUAUUAUCUACUACAAAGCUCCUACAAUUGAUCUGUACAACUUCACAUCCUAAAUUGAUUCACUUCCAUAGCCUGAAAGUUUUUGUCAAUUGGUCAUGGGAGUAGAAAUAGGAUUGGCACUUUGCAUUUUGGAUUUGUAUAAUAGAUCAAUUAUGUAUUUUCCUUGAGAGAUGAAUGCUUUCAACAAUAUGCUUCACUUCAAUCCCUAAAAAUAGUUGAUUUCUCCAAGAUCUUUUAAGGCAAACUCUCUGUUUAAAUUGGUAAUGAGAUGCAUCACAGCUUGUUCACUACUACUAGUGAUAAGAAUGUCAUCUACAUACACAAGAAUAUAGGUAGAAUGAAUUUUUGUCACACAAAUGAAUAGAGAUUGAUCUGACUUUGUAGAGAUAAAUCCAAAGGAAUAUAGGGCUACACUUAACUUUUCAACCAAACACUUGGUGCCUGUUUUAAGUCAUAUAAAGUUUUAUGUAAUUUGAAAACAAGAUGAGAUUGGUUGUGCUGAAUAAAUCUAGGAGGUUGUUCCAUAAAAACUUCCUCAUGCAACACUCCAUUCAAAAGGAAUUAUUAAUGUCUAAUUGAUGAAUUAACCAAGCUCUAGACAAAGCUAUAGUAAGCAUAACCCGAAUAGUUGCAGGUUUAACAAUUGGAUUAAAAGUUUCAUUGAAAUCAAAACCAACAACUUGAUGAAACUCUUUUGCAUAUAUGUUUAACAAUCAGAUCUAGUUCUCUUGCUCUAUUUAAAUCCCUGGCAUUUAGCGCCUCCUUGUCAUCUCUCUUUGUCGCAAAUUUCUCUUCUCAGGAUAAGCCCAAUCAUGAUCACCCAAUUUGUUCUCAUUGUGGGCUCAUGGGGCAUAUUGUGGACCAUUGCUACAAGUUACAUUGGUGCCCAACUGGGUACAAGCCUAAACCCAAGGCCCAAAUGAGCUCUCUUCGGUCCACCAACAAUCCAUUAUCUUUCCCUGAGCCAUCAAAGGACAUCCACUUCUCUUCUUCAGCUACAACUACCAUACCACCCUCUCCACUUUCUGGUUCUCUCUCAACAGAUCAAGUUCAAUAGCUCAUAAAGUAGACUUUGUUCACUUUGGAAGGAUCCUUUGUCAUGCUCAAAUCUUAUUAUGCGCAUGCAUUGUUUAACUAAGAUCAUUAUAAUUGUUUCCCAAAGUGAGUCAAUGCCAAAUAUUGAAUAAUUGGUUAAGCAUAACUCUUACACACAUUCUAAAAUUUAUGCUCUUAAAUGUAUGUGACUCACUUGCGACAUUUGGAAAUACCCCUAAAAUGGAUACAAAAGCAACGAUGAAUGAAAAAAAUCACAAUGUACAAUGGCUCUAUUUUCAAAAGAAAAAAAAAUCAAUAUUGAUCAUAGUGUACAAUGGCUCUACUUUCAAAAGAAAAAGAAAAUAAAAAGGAAUAUGAUAUCAAAUUAAGGGAAAGUCAAGUUGUGUUGUAUAUAGAUCAACAAGACCUUGUUAAAUGGAAAUCCAACAAUCUUAAAUCAAAUUAAUUAGAUGUGUACUUUAAUUAGAACAAAUGCAUGACUAGAUCUCUUCUAAGUGAUCAAAUUUUAAAUGUAGAACUGGACAAUAAGUUGUAUUCCCUUGAACAUCAAUACUUAUGUUUCUAUGUUGGUCCUCUUAUCCACUAAUGGUUAUGCAUUGGGUUUCAAAACUAAAAUUACAAUUAACUUUGACCUUUGGACUUGAAACCUCAUUCUUGAUGGAUUGAUGUAUAAUAUCUAAAGUAAUUUUGUAAUUGAUUGAAGAAACUCCUACAAGACAUUUAAAGAAAUCUAGUACACCAUUUCUUAUUUAUCACUUUUUUGAGUUGUUUCAAGCACUCUAAGUUUCUGGUUCUUUGUCAUUUGAGGUCAAUUCUCUUAGUUUUUCGCAUUUUUUUCAUAUAGUAUUGUUUUACCCUCAUUUUUAGUAUUCCUAGUUGUUUAGGGGUUUUUUUUUUGUUUUUUUGUUUUUGGAUUUUUAUCUAUUUUUCUUUCUUUUAAUGUCCUUUUAUAUUUCAUCACCUUGUUAUGGCAAGUCAUCCUCAUCCUCAUGAGCUGACCCCUCCAAGGUCACCUGAGGCCGUUUAGAGCAUUGCUCUCCAAGGUCCUUUUGGCCUAAGAGCUCUUUCUAUUGAGUGCUUCCAUUGUCAGGAGGCAUGAGACCGAUACUACACCUCUUUCCAUAAUUGACUAGUUGAGGUUGAGCAUUCAGUCAAUCUCAAAGUCUUCUAGGAGACUUCUUUUCUUACUGUUGUUAGAGAUUGAGGAUAAAAGACGUUACUCUCUCUUUAGGGGACUUUCUACCCCCAUCUUAUUUUCAUUUUCUAUCUGUUGUAAUUGGAGUUACCUUUCAGGUGAUUUUGUAUGAUCAACCAUUUCUUGUCUCUUCCUGUUCCAUCCAACAUGUCCUUAGCAUGCUGCAACUUGAGUCUUGCUUUGGUCAGAAGCUAUUCUCCAAGCCAACAUGGUUGCUAGCUACUUCUACCAUUCUACUCAUCGUACCCAGAUCUGUCAGUCGUUUACUCAAUUCAUUCAUGCCAUACUCUCUGGCUACCAAUUCGAUAUCAACCAAGUGGUUUUGGAUAGCAUUACUCCUUCCCGUGAUCCAUCUUUUUGAGGAGGCACCCCUCCCUUUAACCUUCUCAUCUCGUAGAUUUUGGAGGAUGUAGGUUUUGGGAUAAACCUUGCAUUAGGGGUCCAAGCUAACCAUGCCCUCUUGGAUGGAUGCUCCUAGGCUAAGCAUUAUAACCACAUUUAGGGACUGAUGGCACCUCCAACCCACCAUGGUCCUGAAAAUGCGGCUCAACAAGCAGCUUAGGAGGCAACAACAUAUGAGAAUGAGCUCCAAGCUAUGAAGCAAGGUGUAGUACCUGAGGUAAAUUAUCUCAAGCCUUCUUUAAGAACUUGUUCUAGUUGAGGUCAUGCAAGUUCUUCAUGAGCUACUCAUGAGCAAUGUUAGAAAUGCCACAAAAUGUCAGUGAUAUUUCACCAAUAUUUCGGGUAUCGAUGGGGCUCGAUAGAUAAAUAGGAUGGAAAUUUUGGUUAUUAAAAAUUUCAAUUAUUUCCCUCAUUUUUCAUUGAUAUAUUGGCUAUAUGCUGAUAUAAUACCGAUAUAUCAGUUAUAUUGGUGAUUUUUUAGUGCCUUGCUUACUUUUAGGCCAAAAGGUUUCCCCAUUUUUACCAAAAGGUUUCUCGUUUUUGCCAAAAUGUUUCUUUUAUUUAUUUUUAUUUUAGGCCACAUUCUCACACACACGACCAUACAAUAGUCGUUCCAGAUGAGAAAGUCACCAUCUAUUAAAUAGGCAAUUUUGUUCUCUUAAGUUGUUGAUGUGGGACAACUUUUAUUGACAAGUUUAAAAAUCUAAUCAAACAGGUAAACAAAAUUUACAUUGGUGAGACUCAAACCCGAGUACACAAGUUUGUCGUGAAAGGACACUAGCAUUGAACCAUAUGUGAAUUUGUAGUUUUAAUUGUAUAUAGAAUUAUAUAUAUAAUGUACAUAUCUUUUAUACGUUAUAAUAUUUUUAAUAUAUAUUAUAAUAUUAUUUAAUAAAUUAAACUAUUAUAAAUAAGUUAUUUUUAAUUAUCUUAUUAUAUAUUUUGUAUACCAAUUAAAUACAAGGUAAAUAUCAAUUUUAUAAAUAAAAUAUUAACAUUUUUAAUAUAAAAUACUUAUCUAAAUAUCAUUGUUUUUUUUUUUAUCCCUCAAUAUAUUCAAUUUAGACAUAUUAUCAUUCUAAUAUUAAUGUGCUUUUAAAUUAGUAUAUUAUUGCCUACUAUUACAAAUUUAUUACAUAUUACUAUAUAUAUAUAGUAAUAUGUGUUUUUUUUUCAUGUUUUAUCAUUUUUUUUUUGAAGUUUCCAAGUAUUUUCAUGAAUUUCUGUUUCAUCAAUUUUUUUUUUUUGGGUCAAAAUAUUCCACCGUUAUUCCCUGAUAUAUCUAUAAAAUCCAAUGAUCAAUAAAUCCGUGAUUACUGAUAUUUUCAUUCUUGCUCAUGAGACAUCUUCUUCUACCCACCCACCUGAGAGACAUUCGAUUCCAUGGCCUAUCUCCAGCAACCAAUGGACUCCCAGGAUCUUUAGCUUCAUCAGAUCCAGGGACAACUCCACUAUAUCAUUUCCUAGAUCCACUCUAAAGGCGCAUUGAGCUCUAUGUCUCCACCUCCUUCGGAUACUUAUAUAUGUGUGUGUGUGUGUGUGUGUUCUUUUUCUAUUGUUAAUCUGGAUUUGUGUUUUUUUUGCAUAUCUUAUGUAUCCAAAAUCAUUUUUUUUCUAUAUAUAUUCUUCUUUCUCUUUAACUCUUGUGUGCUUUCCAAUGUUUAUAAUUCAUAUGUUUUGCCAUUUUUAUGACAAAAAAUAAAAAUAAAAAUCAUUGACCAUAUUUAAUUCACUUAAAUAGGGGAAGCAUAGGCAUCGAUAUAAUAGAAAAAAGAUAAAGGAACUCCUUGAAAAAUAGGAGUUAAUAAGUUUUGAAUUAUUUAUUCAAUUCAUUCUUUUACUCAUUUAAUUCUUAAGGGAAAUUGUAAUAGUGGAGAAAAUUAAACCUGAGACAUUGGAGGAAAUUAGAUCAACUAUUGAAAGCAUAACUUGGAAGUUUAAGAGAGUUACCUAAUAUAGAUAUAUCCUAUAAGAUAUUUCUAUUUGAAUUGUCUUUCAUUUUAGAACUAUUAUGAGUCACAAAAGCUUCUUCUCAUGACUUUUAUUGUCUAUUUUUUGGUUGGAGAUAGACCUCUAGGCAUCAUAGUUGAUCUAUUGUGUCUUAUCCAGCUUCUAUUAUGUUAUGUUGAUUUGUAUACAUUUAGAUUCCUUUCGAGCUUUACUUUGUACCUUGUUAUCACUAUAGGGAUAUGUUUCUCUUACAUGCUUUCACAAUGUAUCGAGCAAAAUCUCCAACUAUCAUGUUCUAUUGCUUUGAUCAUAUCUUAUCUCACACAUUUUUCCACCUUUGUUGAAGUUUUUUUUUUGUGUGUAGGUUAUAGGAUUGGAAAAUAAGUACUACUAGAUGAUUCAAAACAUUCCCUUAGUUUAUUUUUAAUUAAGCAUUAAUGUUUGUUAUGUAAACUCCGUUAUAAGAGUUCGGGUGGGUUUAUGUAAUGAUGUUUUGUCACAAGAUUGCCAUAAAGGGAAAUUGUUAGGACAUUAAGCCUUGAUUAUAUGUCGUCAAUUUGGUUCCUUUUUAUAUUUGGCCAUAGAAGUCUUUUUAGAUAGUGACUUGCUCUCUAUUGAAGAUUAAGAGUUGUAAUUUGUCUAACCGAGAAUUCAUAAGUACAUCUAAAAAAGUUUGGCUUGUAGUAAGUUAGGCUUCUUUGAGGUAUAAAUAUGAUUGCUAAUUGUUUUGAACUUAAAAUUAAUUUUUAUAAAGUUUUUUAAAAAUAGAGGAUGCUCAAGUGGGGAGCAGUGCUUAAGUGUUGUGACCGCUCAAGUGCCCCACAUUGCUUGAGCUCCCAAAACGCUCAAGCCACCUUUGUAAGCUCGAGAAAUCGUGAAUCUCUAGUCGAGAUUUUUUCACGCAAAAUUGAUUUGGAAGUCUUCUAAAACCAAACCUUUUGGAGAUUUAUUCCUACAAAUACCUCUUUAUAACCCUUUAAGGGUUAUAGAUUGUUUUAGAGAUUAGUGAGAGAUCUUACAUUCUUUAGAGAGAGUCUCUUAGAGAAAAAGCCUAAUGAGCCACACCAUUCCCGAUCUCUCAUUCAAGGAUUCAAUAUUUGAAUCUUGGUUUGAAAACUUACAUCCCUUUAGCAAGGUUGAAAUGCAUUCAUUAGAGUAAUAGGAGGUUGCUACGUUGCAGACAUGGAUCAAGUUUUAAGUAUUGAAGAGUAAGUCUUUAGGGUAAAGUGGCCAAGUAAAUCUAUGUAACUUGAUAUCAUAUAAUGGAUUUAGAUUAGCGAUCAUAGACUUCAUGGUUUUUUAUCUCCACAGUUAGUGUGGGGGUUUUCCAUGUAAAAAAUCUCUUGUACCUCAUUGUUUAUUACUUGAUAUCUUGUUUGAAUUGCCUAUAAUAGAAAUGAUUGAUAUACCUCAAUAUAUCGUAGGAUAAAAAUUGGGUAUAACAUAUAAACUUUAUUUAAAUUUUUUAAUACAUCCAUUUAGCCCUCCUCCCCUAGGUAUUUCCCCACUAGACUUAGGGGCUUUUUCAAACCAUAAGUUAGUUCACCCUGAGCUAUUGGUUUAUGUUGUUGACCAUCAUUAGUUGAUUCAUUUUUUUUAUUGCACUUGUUAGUCGAUUAAUAUAUAUAUAUAUAUUGUUUUCUCAUACCUAACUUUGGUUUCUUGUGAUUCUUCCACCUAAAACCUACCAAUUAUUUUACAUCAUAAACCAGAGUUUCACCACUUGUUUUGUAUUCUAACCUUAACAAUUCAUCUUCUUUAAAAGUAACAUCUCUACUGAUUUUUGCCUUCCUCAAAUUUAGAUGCUACAACUUAUACCCCUUCACUUUAGUAGGAUGUACAAGAAUUAAACAUUUCUUUCUUUGCUCUUGGUUGCAACUUUUUAUCAUUUACAUGUGCAUAUGUUGUUGACCCAAACACUAUAAGGUGUUGGUAACUUCCUGGUUUACCUGUCCAUAUUUUUUGAGGCGUUUUGAACUUUAUGGAACUCGAAGGGAAUUUGUUAAGCAAGUGACAUGUUGUAUGGAUAGCUUUCGCCUAUAACUUUUUAGGUUAUUUUAUAUUUAUCAACAUGCAUCUUACUCUUUCAAGAAUAGUAUGAUUCAUCCUUUUAGCCAAGCCAUUUUGCUGAGAUGUACUCUUCACUGUUCUUGUUGGGAUUAAGCCCCUAAAGGAAAGACAUGAUGUAACAAAGUUAGAUUUAACUAUCCUCUUGCCAUCCAUUUGGUGUAUUGACAUUAAUUUGAGCAUUUAACUCAUAUCUCUUACAUUAUUAUAUGACUUGGGUGCAUUAGGAGUUGCACACAAGAUACAAGUCAUGAGUUCCUCAUAAGUACAUAAGUUGUCCACAAUUGGUUAAUGGAUUUGGUCAAUCCAAUAAAUAUUGUAGUGCACCACCUCCUAAUUGAAGGGAUGACUUAUCUUGGCCAUUGGGAUGAGUUUCCCAUGAUGAGUGCAUUAGUUUAUGUGAUACAUAUUGGACUAGAUCUAUGGUGAAUCAUGAUGUAAGGCUAUCAAAUGUCAUGAUUCACCAAGCUAUUAUGAUGCAUGGACUCUCAACCUAGAGAGGAUAUUGAGCCUAUGCUGAAAUCAACAGAAGGCUUUGACAUAUGGGAGAGACCCUAAAGUGGUCAUAUAUCCUUAUGGAUUAGGUCACUAUUAAUGGAGGCUAGUAACAAUAGGUAUUCUUAAUAGAGGCAUCAUGAUAUCUCAUGGGCUUGAGAUAGUGUGUCCCCUUGAGUGAUCCAAAGGACAUGUGAUCAUGAAAUUUUUGGCCACAACAAUUCCUUUAGUGAAAUUUGACUUAUGCUCCUUGGAGUUAAAGUUAGAGCAUGUCAGUUAAUCAUAUAAUAAGUGGGAUCUAUAACUCAAGGAUUGGAGAGGUAAUCAUGAUCGGUGAUAGCACUACCUUGUUAGAUUACGAACACCAGUUCAUGGGGAGUUUAUAUGCAAUGGAUAGUAGGAUGUCGUGGACCUGAACUUUGUCUCAUUGUUAUGUACAUGAUUCGUGCCCAAUUGGUGUCUCAGCUGAUUCGUGUCCAGCUGGUGCUCCUUGAUUGAGGGAGUAAUCAACAAAAUUUAUAACCUAUUACACCAUAUACUAGGGUAGCAAAGACAAAGCUACUAUAGUAUAGCGGCUCUAGGAUCGUUCACUGGGAAGGAUUAGCAAGCUAUCAAUGAUACCAAUUCCAAGUGAAUUGGUCUUGUUUCAUUUCAAGGUUAGCUUAAGAAAUAAAACACAAACUUUGAUUGGUAAAGAUUUAAACUAACUAACAUAACAAGUACUCGGAAUAACUUAGGAAGAAAAGCAUUCCUUGGAGAGUUAGGUUCACUGGGGUGGUUCCUCAUGCAAAAGACAUAGCUCCGGUCAGAUGGUUCCUUUCCUCGUGUUAGAGAUUCAACAUAUAGUCACUUCUCUAACCGGUGUUGUACAGCUACCUCCUUUAAUUAGAUUUCACUUUAAUUCUCUCACUGAUGCAACUUGCAAUGGUUUAAGCCUCUCACUAAGCCUUAACCAUUCAAGGUGAUCUUUAACCUUGGAUUACCCGUCAAAAGCUCGCAAGAGAUAACUAAUGGAUGUCUCCUUGGAGUCCAAAAGCUUACCAAGUGUUGGCUAUUCUAGAAAAUCCUACCCUAAAGUCACCUCCCAGAGGCUCGCAAGGGGUAAACUGGUGCAUUUCCAUGGUUGGAAAUCACUUUCCUUACCAAGUGUUGGCCCAAGUGACUCUAAGGUGUUUUAAGUUAACUAAAAACAUAGAAAUCACUAAAGGAUUUCACUUCCUCUUCAUUACUAGCUAAAACCACAAAGCUUUGCAUUCUUGCACUUGGAACCUUCCCCGGCAACCUUAGCUCCAAGGAAUUAGAGGUUUAGUUACUCAUUCUCUGGGGAAAAUUCCUCAGAGAGUUCAUAACUUAGUAAGAAAAUAAAAAUACAAAGUGAGAAGGUAAGGCAAUACAAAGAACUGAACUUUACUUGCUUACCCAAAACUUUACAAAAGGAUCUCCUCUCUAAGAACAGGCUCCCGAGAGGUAUAUAUAUGAACAUAAUAUAAAACUAAUUAUUACAUAGAUAUUUUCUCUUUUUACUAACUUAAAAGCUAAGGAAUCUUGUAAUUGGUGGCUUACAAGGAGUAUUUUGGGAUUUAGACAACAAAAAUCUGAUGUAAAAUAUUUCCCAAUGUCGGUAGCAAAUAUCGGGAUGCUCCAGGAACCAUUUCUCAAGAGAAAAUGGUGUCUGCGAGAUUUCGUAGGCACUCAAGAAGGGAUGCGAAAUCAUUUCGCAAGAACAUGCUAUCUUCGCAGGGCUGCGAAGUUGGCUUCCACCUUGAGGUUCUCAGCUCCCAGCUUGUGGCAUAUAUCGGGCAACUUCAGAAGGAAAUACACCCUACUGUACAAAAAGGCCGCGGAAUCACUUCGCAGCAAAAGGGUGAUUUCGCAACACUUUGGAAAAUGCUUCCUUCAGCUGGGAGUGAUUGGUUUGCAAAGGCUGCAACUUCUUCGUUUCAACUCCGAAUUGCGCACCAUUUGAAGAAUUGGAUUGUUGACUUCCUGAGAUUUGAAAUGGUAUAUAGCAUGCAUCAAUUUGACCUCAGAAAGUGCUCCAAAAGUGGCUGCUACGACUGUCAUCAAGAAUAUGCUUCUUGGCAGAUUCUCUUUACUUUUUCUCCUUGCAUUCCGGAUUUACUCUUGGCAAAUGACUUCCAAGCUUUGCCCAAGAUUCCUCAACACUCUCCUCAAUCUUGAAUUGCUUUGGUGAUCAAAUUACUAACAAAAACACCAAAACUUACACAAAGUGAUUAAAAUUGCUUUCAAGGGUCCUUAAUAUGCUAAUUGAGUUAAAAGGCCAAAACUACUACUCAAAAGCGUUUAAAAGGAUUAAUUAUAAGUUAUCAAAUAGCACUUUUUGAGCAGUAAUCACUCCCCCCAACCGACAUAUUGCUAGUCCCUUAGCAAUAUAGGAGAGAAAAAUGAAAAUAAAAAGCAAACUUAACCUAUAAUGUACAACAUCAUGCUGAACAAAAACAAUUCUCAAGUGGCAUGAUGAUUUAAUUCUCUCAUGAAACAUUAAAGAAAUACAAACCCAAAUUUCAACAAGAGUUAUAACAAACUAUGCUAAACACUUUCAAUCAAGGGAAUGCAUUAUGCAAACUGAAGUUUUAAAAUCAUUUCCACUUUCAAAGAACCAAACUUUAUUCUUCCUCAAAAAUCUAUGUGUAUAGGUUCCUUAGGUUCCGAGAAUAAUAUGCUAAACUAAUCUCUCCCCCCAACCUAUCUCUUUUCAACACUUAGAAAACUGACCAAAAUCAAUAAAGAAAGAACACAUUUUUUUUUUUUUUUUUUAAGGAGGCUUUAUGGGAUACUCUUUCUGAAUUGUCCAUGUAAUGGGGGUCCAUCGAUGACUCCCAACCAAUUAAGGUUUAGGGCAUCAAGCUUUAAGGAUCUUUCAACCACUAACUCCAUGGAUUUUUCCCCGGACUUUUGAGAAUGAAUUUCUAAUACCCAAGCACCUAGCAUAUGCUAACUCUACCUAUUCACCCUUAUAACGAGCAUUGAGGUCGGUGACUCCCAACCAAUUAAGGCUUAGGGCACCAGGCUUUAAAGAUUUUCACCAUAUACCCCUCAGACCUUGCUCGGGUUUUAAGGCAAGCAAACAACUUUCUUUAUUUCAAAGGCUCAUUGGCCUUUUGCAGGGUGUUUCAAUUUUAUCAAAUGAGGUCAAAUAUACCAAGUCCCAAAAUUAUCCUAAGUCAAGAGGGAAAUAGCUUUUCAUGUUAUAAUCGGAAUCUAAUGUGUACAGUGUGUGAAUAGCUUAAAGUGGAAGAACUAAAUUCAAUUUCAAUAGAAGCUUCAACAAUUGAACCACUUUAGUGAGCAUAAUCCAUACUCUAAGUCAAGUGAAAAACAACAGUUCAAUUUCUCCUGUUUCAAUUUGAAAAUUUUUCCUCAAAAUUCAUGGAGAAUAGAGUAAAAAGAGUAAAAAGCAAAAACUACAACUAAUUUACCAAAAUAAUUGCAUUACCAAAAAGGCUUAGCAUACUUCCUUUAAUUUAGCAUAACUUCCUUCAUCAUUCCCCCCCAACCGAACCGAGCAUUGUCCUCAAUGUGAUAUGAGUGACUGUAAUUAAAGGGAGGAAGUGGUACCUCCUGAGUGAUAUCAAAUUCGAAUACUAAUUGGAGAAACCACAUGUUUAAAAAAGAAUAGAAUAUGUGAGAAAAGGAAAUAAGAAUAAGUUAAUGCUAACUGUUAACAAAAAAAUAUUAAACUUGUAUUACUUUGAAUCCAUUUGAGUACACUGAAAAAGAAAAGCAAUACAAGCAAUCCCAAAUAUAGUACCAAAAUAAUGGGAUUUCUUUCAAACUAAAAAUGAAAUACAUAAAACAAAGAUAGUAGAUAUAUAUAUAAUGAUCUAAUGAGUGGGUGGUGCUGGGGCUAGGCAGAUGGGUCUGCCUCUUCAGUUGGUGCUUCAGCUGGGGCUUGAGGCUCUGAGGGAUGAGAGUGUGGAUCUGCUGGAGUAGAAGUGGAGGGCUCAACAGCUGGUGGCAGGUCGAAAUGAAGCUGAAACUGCCUUAAGAUGACAGUGUGUUGAGCCUGAGUGGCCAACAUCUGCUCUUGGCAUGCUCUAAUGGCUGCCAUCUCUUGAGCUAGACUGCUCUGAGAUGUUGUGAGGGUCUCCAAUGCACGGCACAACUCUCGAUAUUCAGAAAUGGGUAUGGCCAUCCUCGGCUCAGCUGAAAUGGAUGGCUGAGAUGAAGCUGGAGCAGCUGGUGGAGCUCUGGGAAUGGCAGGAGCAGCAACUGUGAUACCCUCAGGUAUGUGUCGUGGGGAUGCUCUCCUUGUAGUUGGCUGAGGACGCUCAGGCUGGUCAACUCUAUAAGCUGUCAUGUUGUUCCAUUUGUCGAGAGUAAAAAGCUCACGACAAAUGCGCUUUCGCUCCAACUGAGGCUCAGAAGGAUAUCCCAAGUGCUCCAGAAUUUGGCAUAGCAGCCUUGGAAAGAGGAGGGGAAUGCAAUCAGCUCUCUGAAGCUUCUUUUUGUGUACAUUAUCUUCGAAAUAGAGAAGGACUGCCAGAAUCAGAUGAUGAGGCCCAAAGAAAAAUCCUUCAGACAUCUUGUAUAGGGCUUCUAAGAGGACUCCUCUUCUUUGAGUCCAAUGCUGCAAUGGGUAGAGGUUAUGACGCAAAAAUGCAUCAAUCAAAAACAUGAUUGGAGGAAGCUCCCCCCUCAACAGAUGUGAUCGAUUGGCAGCUCCUCUGGAUAGGGUGCGCACCAUCUCCAGCUCAGUAGGAUUGGUCCAAGCUCUAAAAUUAUCGAAUUGGGUUGGCUCAUAGGGAAUUUGCAAGGCUUCAGCUAUAUGGCGUGCUCCCAAUAUGCCAUGCCUCCCAUCAAUAGUGAAAUGAAUUAAAGUUGGAUCCCUGACCUGGUUAGUUGUCAUGGAUUGAUAGAAAUCCAUGGCUACCCUUGGGUAGAAAAAGUCUCUUGGAGUCAGUAGGUGCUCCAUAUGGUAUCUCCUCAGCAGGUUGAAUGUCUGUGCAAGCUCCGGCUGCAAUCGGAAUGCGGCUAUGUCAAAGCAUAGCUCAGAGUGGAAUGGCCGAGCUCUACAGUCCAAAUUUCCCUCAAUUGGGGGCUGAGUUAGCAUUGGCCUCUUGAUUAUUUCUUCCGGAGCUAUUUCGGAUUGAAUUUGGGGCUCUGGAAGUGGCGGCUAAGGCUCCUGAGAUUUCGCUUGCGGCGCCAGAAAUGGCACCGGCGACGGAACUGGCGAGGAUACCGGAGAUGGAACUGGAGUUGGAACCGGUGAUGGCUCUGGAGAUUGCUCCGUCUAGUCGAUGGGUUCUGAGCUUUCAACCCUGGGUCUCUUUUGCAGUGGCCGACCCCCUGACCUGGUAAGGUAACGUCUCGCCAGAGGCUUUGGCGGCGCUGGCUUCACCGGAGGAGGAGUUGCUUUCAGCUGCGAAGGCUCAGAAACGGGAUCCGGGACUGGCUCCUUUCGCAAGCUUCUCUUGCGGCUUGAAGGGGAGGAAGACUUGGCCCCUCUGGUUUGCGCCAUUUCGGGUUACCGAAAUUUGGCCAGAGCGGAUGGUCGGAGAAGAUGAUCGGAGGCUUGCGCGGUGAGGCUUGAGGAAGGAGAUGGACGGUCUGCGAGAAUGGACGGUAUAAUUUUGAAACCCUUUUCGCAGCUCAAAUGACCGGUAUAAAUAGGAAUAACGGAAGACUAAGGGUCAGUUUGAGUUUCGCAGUAAAAUGCCAUUUUCGCAGCUACUUCGCAAUGCGUUUCGCAGCUGCGAAAUUAAUGUUACUGUGCUGCGAAGUGGCACACGUGUGUCAAAAUCUCCUUCGCAAUUGCGAAAUACCCUGCGGAAUGGGACUUUUGUUGCGAAAUCUGGGCUUUACCACUUCGCAAGUCGUUUCGCAGCUGCGAAAUGGGGGCUCCUGUGCUGCGAAGUGGCACUCGUGUGCCAAACUUGCCUUCGCAGCUGCGAAAAUUCUCGCAGAGAAUCCCAAAGUGUUGCAGAAUGAUUUGGCAACAAAAUGCUCAUUUCGCAAAAGUUUUCUUUAGGCUGCGAAAUCUCGCAGAGCUCUGUUUUUGCUCUGUUUCACUCUGUUUUUGCUCCGAUUUCGAUCCGAUUUUUUCUCUUUCAAUUUCCUUGAAAUUUCUUCCACCUGAGAUCAUUUAAAAAGAUUAAAACACACCUAAAAACAUGAUUUAAGAUCAAAAACUAAGAUCAAAUGUAUGGAAAAAAACUUGAAAAUUUACAAAAUUUACAAAAAUUUUGGACUGUGGUAAACCAUGUCUAGCAAACCCUUCUUUGCUUAGGCUUUUUGAGGCUCAAGGAGGUUGAUAUCCUCCUUUUCUAGUUUGAAUGGCUCCAUUAAUGGCUUGAGACGAUAUCCAUUGACUUUGAAGGUGUCCUUGCCAUUUGAAUUCAAUAAUUCCACAUCUCCAUUGGAACAUACUCGGUGAAUUAUGAACGGGCCUAUCCACCUUGACUUGAGCUUCCCAGGAAAGAUAUGGAGUCUUGUGUCAUACAGUAAAACUCUUUACCCUUCCUGAAAUUCCUUAUUGGAGUUUAGUUGAUCAUGCCACUUCUUCAUCCUCUGUUUUGCAACUUUGGAAUUGAUAUAGACAUUAUUUCUUAAUUCCUCCAUCUCAUUAAGGUCUAGAUAUAUUUUUUCUCCGGCUCUGAUCAAGUCCAUGUUCAGCUUCUUUAUUGCCCACCAAGCUUUGUAUUCAACUUCCACAGGGAGAUGGCACGCUUUGCCAUAGACAAGACGAUAGGGAGACAUGCCAAGAAUAGUCUUAUAAGCUGUUCUAUAUGACCACAAUGAAUCAUGAAGCUUAAUAGACCAAUCUUUUCUGCUGGAAUUCACCACUUUCAUCAAUAUGUUCUUUAUUUACCUCUUAGCUAGCUCAACUUGCCCGGAAGUCUGAGGAUGAUAAGGUGUAGCCACCUUAUGCUUCACUCCAUACUUGGAUAACAGAGCUUCAAAAGGUUUGUUGCAAAAAUGAGCACCUCCAUCACUGAUUAUGGCUUUGGGUACCCCAAAUCUCGAAAAAAUGUUCUCUUUAAGGAAUUUGAGAACCACCCUGUGAUCAUUUUGUUUACAAGGGAUUGCCUCAACCCAUUUAGAAACAUAAUCCACCCCCACCAAGAUGUAAGAAUUACCAAAAGACAUUGGGAAAGGUCCCAUGAAGUCAAUACCCCAUACAUCAAAUAGCUCAACUAUUAGAAUGGGGUUCAUAAGCAUUUGAUUUAUUUUUGUUAACUUUCCAAGCCGUUGGCAUCUGUCACAACUUCUACACAUGAUGUAGGCAUCUUUGAAAAGAGAUGGCCAAAUAAACCCUGAUUGCAAUACUUUCAUGGCUGUUUUCUGAGAGGCAAAGUGGCCUCCACAUGCAUUCUCAUGACAAUGAUAUAGAAUCCCUUGCUGCUCAUCUUCAGGGACACACUUCCUUAUGAUCUGAUCUGCACAAUACUUAAAAAGAAAGGGCUCUUCCCAAUAAUAAGCAUGAAUUUUGGCAAAGAAGUGCUUCCUGUCCUGUGCAUUCCACUCACUUGGAAUUUCUCCAGUUACUAAAUAAUUAGCAAUAUGAGCAUACCAAGGAGUUUUCACUAGGAACAUGAGUGAUUUUUCAGGAAAAUCAUCAUUAAUAGGCAAGGGAUGGGAAUUAUGUGCUAUAACUAACCUUGAAAGGUGGUCAGCUACCACAUUCUCCACUCCUUUCUUAUCUUUGAUUUGAAGAUCGAAUUCUUGUAACAAAAGAAUCCAUCUAAUCAACCUUGCUUUUGCAUCUUGCUUUGUCAAUAAAUACUUCAAGGCUGAAUGGUCAGUGAAGACAAUGAUGAAAGACCCCACUAAAUAAGCACGAAAUUUGUCCAAAGCAAAUACCACAGCUAACAAUUCUUUCUCUGUAGUUGUGUAGUUCCUUUGAGCUUCAUUCAGUGUUUUGCUUGCAUAGUAAAUCACAUAGGGCUUCCCAUCUUCCCUUUGGCCAAGCACAACUCCUAUAGCAAAGUCACUGGCAUCACACAUCAGUUCAAAAGGUAAUUGCCAGUUAGGGGCUCUCACUAUUGGAGUUGUUGUUAAAAAUUUCUUCAGUUGAUCAAAGCUGUUUUGACAUCUUUCAUCCCAUAUAAACUUAGCAUCCUUAGCUAACAGCUCACAAAGAGGUUUUGAAAGACUUGAAAAACCUUUUAUAAACCGCCUAUAGAACCCUACAUGGCCAAGGAACUGUCUUACUCCUUUCACAGUUGUUGGGGAUGGUAAUUUGACAAUAAGCUCCACCUUUGCUUUAUCAACUUCAAUGCCUUUUUCAGAGAUGAUAUGGCCAAGGACAAUUCCUUGACGUACCAUAAAAUGGCAUUUCUCCCAAUUGAGCACCAGGUCUUUUUCAAUGCAUCUGUGAAGAACUGCUUCCAAAUUGACUAAGCAUUCCUCAAAUGUACCUCCAUAUACGGUGAUGUCAUCCAUGAAAACCUCCAUAAUUAGUUCCACCAUAUCACUGAAAAUACUCAGCAUACAUCUUUGAAAUGUAGCAAGUGCAUUGCAUAAACCAAAAGGCAUUCUCCUGUAAGCAUAUGUUCCAAAUGGACAUGUAAAAGUGGUUUUUUCCUGAUCUGCCAAAUAAAUUUCAAUCUGAAAAUACCCUGAAUACCCAUCCAAGAAACAAUAGAACGGAUGUCCAGAGACUCUCUCCAGCACUUGGUCAAUAAAUGGCAAUGGAAAAUGAUCCUUCCUGGUUACAGCAUUCAGCUUUCUAUAAUCAAUACACACUCUCCAACCUGAAGUGAGGCAUGUAAGUAACUUCUUCUCCUUUUUCAUUCUGAACCACUGUGAUUCCUAACUUCUUUGGUACCACUUGAGUAGGACUCACCCAAGGGCUAUCAGAUAUAGGGUAGAUGAUUCCUGCUUGAAGUAGCUUCAGCACCUCAGCUCGCACCACCUCUUGUAAAUGAGGAUUCAAUCUUCUUUGAAGUUGACGAAUUGGCUUUGUCUCCUUCUCCAUAUAUAUAUGAUGAGUACAAACUAAAGGACUAAUGCCUUUCAAGUCGGAUAUUUGCCAUCCUAUUGCCUUCUUACACCUCUUGAGAACUUCCAUUAAACAAUUCUCUUGAUGACUGGUCAGAGAUGAAGAUAUCACAACAGGACAUUGAUUAUUUUCUUCAAGAUAUGUAUAUUUCAGCUCCACAGGUAGAGACUUCAGAUUGAGUUUUGGAAUUUCUUUUUCAGCAACUGCCUCCUCUUCUUCAUUGAACAAAGGUAGAAUCUCUUCUAUCUUUCUCCAACUUUGUAGAGUAGCAAGCAUAGUAGGAGAUUCAGACAAACCUUCCUCAAAAUCCACAAGACUUUCAUUCAACUUGUCUUGCAUAUUUUGAUUACAGUGCUCCUCCACCAAAGUGUCAAUAAUGCACAGCUCUUCUGGACCCUCUUCUUCUUCCGGAGUGAUUUGCUUUUUAGACAUAUAGAAAAUAUUGAGAUCAAGUGUCAUGUUGCCAAAAGUGAGUUGCAUCAGUCCAUUCCUGCAGUUGAUGAUUGCAUUUGAGGUAGCAAGAAAUGGCCUUCCAAGGAUGAUAGGAACUAAAUUAGCUUCCUUUAUAGUAGGAUCUGUAUCAAGAACAAUAAAAUCUACUGGAUAGUAGAAAUUAUCCACUUGAACCAAUACAUCCUCAAUUACCCCCCUUGGAAUUUUCACUGAUCUAUCUACUAGAGAUAAAGUGAUUGCUGUUGGCUUCAACUCUCCAAGUCCCAAUUGCUUGUAGACGGAAUAUGGAAGCAAAUUCACACUUGCUCCCAAGUCUAACAAGGCUUUCUCCACUACCUUUCCUCCAAUCAUGACUGAAAUGGUAGGACUUCCUGGGUCUUUGUACUUCAAAAGAGACUUACAUUGUAAGAUUGCACUUACUUGCUCAGUCAAGAAGGCUUUCUUAUUUACAGUCAACCCUCUUUUGAUAGUACAUAAGUCCUUAAGGAAUUUUGCAUACGUUGGAACUUGUUUAAUCAUAUCCAGCAGUGGAAUAUUGACUUUCACUUGUCUCAAUACUUCAAGGAUUUCAGCUGCAUUUCUAAUCCCCUUUUUCCCAUGUAAUGCUUGAGGAAAAGGUGGAGAGGUUGAUUUCUUCAGCAUUUCUUCCUUCAUAAGUUCCUUCUCUGGAAUUGCAUUCAUUGUUGAAUCAGAGUCCUUCUUUUCUUCACUGAUCUCACUCUCUUUAUCUUCCAUUUCCUUCCCUUUCUUUAUCUCUUCUUCAUUAUCAACAUGUGGCUUGGGUGUUGGUUGCUCAAUUUUUUUACCACUCCUUAGAGUGAUCAAGGCGUUCACAUCUUUCACCUGUGAUGAUUCUCCCUCUUGGCUUUCCACUUCAUGGACACCUUUGGGAUUUUGGUGAGGUUGAGAAGGAAAUCUUCCCUUUUCUUGUAGUGUAUUCAAAUUUGUAAGCCUUGAAAUUGAAUAUUGGAUGUUAUCAAACUUUUGGUUCAUAUCAUUUUGCAUUCCAUCCAUCCUUUUAUUCAACAUACUCUCCACUCUAUCAAUUCUUUGAUAGAUUUGAGCAUUGGUGGCUUCUUGCUUUCCAACAAAAUCUCCCACUACCUUGCUGAGAUUAGCCAUUACUUGUUCAAGACUUGAAGAUUGUUGAGAUGGUGGAUCCGGCUGUUGGUAUUGAGUUGCUCUGGCCUUCCAUGAGAAAUUUGGAUGAUUCCUCCAACUUGAGUUGUAGGUAUUUCCAUAAGGCGCAUUGUUAUUGGGCUUGAAUUGCCCAAUAACUUUUGCUUGAUCUCUAAACAUUUCCCUUUCAGCUGAAAUUGCAGGGCAUUCCUCCACCAAAUGUUCAUAUGAUUGACAAUUAGGACACAGCUUCACUUGCACUGGUGCUUCAGCAACAGCUUGCACUUCAUGUAUUCUUUUCAGCUCCAGCUCCUCCAAUCUUCUUGUCAUAGCUGCCAACUUUGCUUUCAUAUCAUCAUCUUCUUUCAAGGUAUACAUCCCAGCCUUUGUAUUGAAAGCAUUCGGUUGAGACUUCAUCUUCCCCACUUCUCCUUUAGUUGGUUCAUCCCAUCCCCUUGAAACAUCAGCUAUAUAGCUCAAGAAAUCCAUAGCUUCCUCUGGAUUUUUUCUCAUGAAAUCUCCUCCACACAUUGUCUCGAGGAGUUGCUUCAUUGAGGAGGACAUACCAUCAUAGAAAUAGCUCACCAGUAACCAAGUAUCAAAGCCAUGGUGAGGGCAAGCAUUUAUAGCUUCCAUAUAUCUUUCCCAACACUCAUAGAAUUUCUCAUUCUCUUUAGCUGAGAAGUUUGAAAUUUGACUUUUCAAGCCAUUUGUUCUAUGAGUGGGAAAAAAUUUCUUGAGGAAUUCAGCUUGUAAGUCAGUCCAAGAACGGAUACUCCUUGGCCUUAAAGAAUUAAGCAAAAUUUUGGCCUUAUCCUUUAAAGUAAAAGGAAAUAACUUAAGCCUCAUCAAAUCAAUUGAAGCUCCUCCCUCUUGGAAUGUAUUACAAACAUCUUCAAAUUCCUUGAUAUGUGCAUACGGAUUCUCACUUUCCAUCCCAUGGAAAGUUGGUAGAAGUGGAACAAGAUACGGUCUGAUCACUAGCUGCUCUGUAGGGGGCACUAUACAUGAUGGUGCACUCAUACGAGGUGGAUGCAUACGGUCCCUCAUUGAUCUGAAUUCAUUGAGAUUGUCUUGACGACCUUGGUGACUAUGCUGAUCUUCAGGUGUAGCUUCCAUGAUAUUCAAGCUUACUUCGAAUUCUCUUCUCUGAGGUGUAUCACACUUAACAAGCCUUCCUCCACUGUCUCGUAUCCACUUUGGCAUACACAACUAGUAUCUAUCUGCAACUUAAUGAAAAUAAAGAACAACAACAGAAACAGGGCUACAACAACAAAAUUAAUCUAGGCUAAAUUUUAAAAUAUAAACUUAGAUUAUGAAUAAAUAAAUAAAGAAUGAGAAUUAGUAAAGUGAAAGAAACGUUACCAACUUGUGAUGAAAAUCACAAGUGCUCAAAAAUGGUAUCACUAUAAAUUUGACACCUUCCCUGGCAACGACGCCAUUUGAUUCGUGCCCAAUUGGUGUUUCAGAUAAUUCGUGUCCAGCUGGUGCUCCUUGAUUGAGGGAGUAAUCAACAAAAUUUAUAACCUAUUACACCAUAUACUAGGGUAGCAAAGACAAAGCUACUAUAGUAUAGCGGCUCUAGGAUCGUUCACUGGAAAGGAUUAGCAAGCUAUCAAUGAUACCAAUUCCAAGUGAAUUGGUCUUGUUUCAUUUCAAGGUUAGCUUAAGAAAUAAAACACAAACUUUGAUUGGUAAAGAUUUAAACUAACUAACAUAACAAGUACUCGGAAUAACUUAGGAAGAAAAGCAUUCCUUGGAGAGUUAGGUUCACUGGGGUGGUUCCUCAUGCAAAAGACAUAGCUCCGGUCAGAUGGUUCCUUUCCUCGUGUUAGAGAUUCAACAUAUAGUCACUUCUCUAACCGGUGUUGUACAGCUACCUCCUUUAAUUAGAUUUCACUUUAAUUCUCUCACUGAUGCAACUUGCAAUGGUUUAAGCCUCUCACUAAGCCUUAACCAUUCAAGGUGAUCUUUAACCUUGGAUUACCCGUCAAAAGCUCGCAAGAGAUAACUAAUGGAUGUCUCCUUGGAGUCCAAAAGCUUACCAAGUGUUGGCUAUUCUAGAAAAUCCUACCCUAAAGUCACCUCCCAGAGGCUCGCAAGGGGUAAACUAGUGCAUUUCCAUGGUUGGAAAUCACUUGCCUUACCAAGUGUUGGCCCAGGUGACUCUAAGGUGUUUUAAGUUAACUAAAAACAUAGAAAUCACUAAAGGAUUUCACUUCCUCUUCAUUACUAGCUAAAACCACAAAGCUUUGCAUUCUUGCACUUGGAACCUUCCCCGGCAACCUUAGCUCCAAGGAAUUAGAGGUUUAGUUACUCAUUCUCUGGGAAAAAUUCCUCAGAGAGUUCAUAACUUAGUAAGAAAAUAAAAAUACAAAGUGAGAAGGUAAGGCAAUACAAAGAACUGAACUUUACUUGUUUACCCAAAACUUUACAAAAGGAUCUCCUCUCUGAGAACAGGCUCCCAAGAGGUAUAUAUAUGAACAUAAUAUAAAACUAAUUAUUACAUAGAUAUUUUCUCUUUUUACUAACUUAAAAGCUAAGGAAUCUUGUAAUUGGUGGCUUACAAGGAGUAUUUUGGGAUUUAGACAACAAAAAUCUGAUGUAAAAUAUCUCCCAAUGUCGGUAGCAAAUAUCGGGAUGCUCCAGGAACCAUUUCGCAAGAGAAAAUGGUGUCUACGAGAUUUCGCAGGCACUCAAGAAGGGCUGCGAAAUCAUUUCGCAACAACAUGCUAUCUUCGCAGGGCUGCGAAGUUGGCUUCCACCUUGAGGUUCUUAGCUCCCAGCUUGCGGCAUAUAUCAGGCAACUUCAGAAGGAAAUACACCCUACUGUACAAAAAGGCUGCGGAAUCACUUCGCAGCAAAAGGGUGAUUUCGCAACACUUUGGAAAAUGCUUCCUUCAACUGGGAGUGAUUGGUUUGCAAAGGAUGCAACUUCUUCGUUUCAACUCCGAAUUGCACACCGUUUGAAGCAUUGGAUUGUUGACUUCCUGAGAUUUAAAAUGGUAUAUAGAAUACAUCAAUUGGACCUCAGAAAGUGCUCCAAAAGUGGCUGCUACGACUGUCAUCAAGAAUAUAUUUCUUGGUAGAUUCUCUUUACUUUUUCUCCUUGCAUUCCGGAUUUACUCUUGGCAAAUGACUUCCAAGCUUUGCCCAAGAUUCCUCAACACUCUCCUCAAUCUUGAAUUGCUUUGGUGAUUAAAUUACUAACAAAAACACCAAAACUUACACAAAGUGAUUAAAAUUGCUUUCAAGGGUCCUUAAUAUGCCAAUUGAGUUAAAAGGCCAAAACUACUACUCAAAAGCGUUUAAAAGGAUUAAUUAUAAGCUAUCAAAUAGCACUUUUUGAGUAGUAAUCAGUACAUAUGGUAUUGGAGUGUAGUUGAUUCUCUUUAAUGGAAUGUUAAAUCAAUUUCAAAUUUGGAUUUUGAUGGAGCAAAUACUCCUAUGGGUCCUAGUGGUUCUCGCUUUGAGCUUAUAUACUAGGUAACACAUUUUAUGAGGGUUGGAUUGACUCUAGGUUGAUUCUUGUGCAUAAGAGAAUUUUGGUAACUACGCAAGGUUGCAUAAGGGAUAAUGAACAAGGUAUUUGGUUUGGGCUAAUUGAUCAAUUAGAUGACCCUAUAUAGUUAAUUAAUCAAUUAAGAGCCAUUUUGGGCUAGACUAAGUGACUCAUGCCUUGAUGGGCUUAAGUCACUUAAGCACAAUCGACAACCUUAUAAAUACCCCUUUAUGGGUUAGCAUUUCCUAAUGACUUUUAAUGAGAGUUGUUUUCCACCUCUAGAGAAAGAGAGAGAGAAAGUCAUAGCCUCAUCCCUUUUGUUGCGCACACUUUAGAGUGCCAGGAUUGUGGUUCAAGUCAUCGGGUGGAGGAUCUUGGGUAUAUGAGACCUUCUUAGAUGAGAGGCUACAUCACAUGGACAUGCGUAGAGCACAUGCACAAGAUGUGCAUAGGCCAUGUGCAUGGGAAUUGCAUGACACAUGCACAUGGGCAGUAGCAUGAGGAGAGAGACUCUCUAGUUUUUCCAAGUAUGUUCUUCAUCGGAUGGAUUUUGAUCUGGGAACAUCUAAAUCACAUGUAUGAGUUUCAAAUCUCUAGAUCUAUAGUUAUUAAUGGUUUUCAUUGCUAAUUUAUUCCACUACGAUAGAUUUACAAAUGCCUAGGGAUAGAUGCAUGCACCCUAUGAGAUCCAAGGUAUAGGAACGAAGUAUUAAUCUAGUGGUUCCCAAGUAAUGAUAAUAGUAAGAUAUCAAGAUUGAACCUAGCACUAAUUAAACAUCUGGUAUUUAGACCUAACUCAUAUUAAUCUAAAUAGGAUCCAAAGAUUGGUAAAGUCUAGACUCUUUGAUUCCAAAAGAUCUUCUAGUUUACGAAUCCUAUAUAGAUGGUAAAAUGAUCAAGAGUACUAGAGGUAAGGAAUAUUUGGAGUUAGUGCAUACUAACAUGUAUGGAACUUUUAGAGUCUAUGCAUGGGGAGGGUAUGGGUAUUUCAUCACUUUUAGUAAUGAUUACUUUAGGUUUGGAUAUGUACAUAGGAAAUCCGAUGCCUUGGAUACAUUCAUUGAAUUUAAGGCGAGAUAGAAUAACCUAUUGGGUAUACAUACCAAGUCAUUUCAAUUAUAUCAAGUUGAUAUGUUUGGUAAGUUUGAUUCUUUCUGUUAGAGCAUAUGAUUAUUUUCUAGUUAUGUUCAUCAAGGUCUCUACUGAAAAACGAAUAAGUGGAAAGAAGAUAUCAAACUUGGAUGGACAUAGUAAGAUUGUGGAUAGGUUUCUCAUAUUUUCUCAAAUUCUUUUGGGGAUAUGUCUUAUAGAUUGUGUAAUUACUUUUUUUUUUUUUUUUUUUGCUUUCUUAAGAGGUGUAUUAGUUUAUAGGAUAUCUAAGAGGAUUUUUGGGUUAUAUUGUAGUCAAAAUCAUCAAAAGAUAUUUGUUAACAUAAAUGUCCCAUUUUUCAUGAAAAUUAUAUGAUAAGGAAGAAGGCAUAGAGUGAUAUCGAUUGGAGGAUAUAUUAGAAGAUAGUCCCACAUUGCAUAGGAUACUAUGGAUCCAGAGAGUUAAAGACAUACCAUUCCUAUGAUUUCUAGUACACCAGUACCUCAUCAUAGUGGGAAGUUUAUAUCCCACAGAUAAUGAUGAAGCGGUGAGCAAUGUUUAUGCUCACUUAAGGCAAGGAUGUGUGAUCAUGAAAUCUAUGAACCCAUAGUAAUUCAUUUAGUGAAAUUUGAGAUAUGGUCUUAGUGAGUUAGAGUAUGUUAUUUAAUCACAAAAUAAGAUGAUCUAUAAGUCAAAGAUUGUAAAGGUAGUCUUGAAAGGAUGAUAACUUUCACCUUGUUAGACUACGAACAACCAAUUCAUGGGAAGACUAUAUACAAUAGAUAGCAAGUCACAAACUUGAGCACUUGGUGUUUCGCUGUAAUAUACAUAGGGUUCUAGAGUACAAUUAACUCUCUAUAGUAGGAUAUUGAGUUAACUUUAGAAUUGGAUUCUAAGGGAUCUAGUAUUGUCCUAUGGUUCCAUUGGUCUCUACUAAAGCUCAUCUUCCUUGAUAGCAUGGUUUAUGAGAGUUGGAUAGGUUUUUAGUUCACUCGUGUGCAUAAAGGCAUUUUGGUAAUUGCAUAAGGUUACACAAGGGUAACUGUGCAGUAUCUUCGAACUUGGUUAAUUGAUUAAUUGGAGCCUUAUUUUGUUAAUUAAUCAAUUAGCAACCUUUUUGGGCUAAAUUAAGUGACCCACACCCCUAGUGGGCUCAAGUCACUUAAGCAUAGUAGGAGUAUAAAUACCUUUCUCAAGGGUUUGGGUUUCUAAUUCAAUCUUGUCAUUCUCUCCCCAUAGUCUAGAGAGAAAACCCUAGUCUUCAACCUUGAGAUUUCCAUCAUUUCAGUGCCUAGACUCAAGGAGGAGUCAUCGAGUGGAUGAUUAUGGGUUUAUAAGAUCUUUCUUAAAUUUGGAGCUUUCUACAUUAACAAGAAUUGAUUUGGGAACAUCCGAAUAAUACGUAUAACACUUUUCUCUAGAUCUAUGAUAUGUUUUUUAAAUACCAAAGUUUUCAACUAUGCUUAGAUCUAGAAAGCAUAAGAUAGGAUUACAUGCACCCUAAUAAUCCAAGGCCUAGGAAUAUAGCGAUCUAAGGUUUCCUACCAAAUAUAACCCAAUAAGUAAGAAUGAUUUAUAGGAACUAAAAUUUCUUUCAAAAAGAAAAGAAGUUUAUUGGAGUAAGAUAAGUAUACAAGAGAAGGAAAAAUGCAAAAGGAGUAGACAAAUACAAAGCAACAUUGGUGCAAAGGAUUACAAGCAAGAAUAAUGCACCAACAAGACGAGGGCAUUUGCUCUCAUUGCUCUUUUAGUAACUAUAAGAUUAAAAAUCUCUUUGAUAGCUUAAAUUAGUUGAAAAUUUUCAAAUGGAUGUGAAAUCCAAUUUUUUGAAUUGACAUCUGGAAGAAGUGUAUGUAGAAUAAACCAUAGUUGGUAUACAUAUAUAGGCAUGAGAAUAAAGUUCCAAAAUUGAAAAUAGCCUUGUAUGGAAUAAAACAAACACUAAGAGCAUGGAAUAAUAGAAUUGACCAAUAUUUUCACGAUAAUAAUUUUGUUUGAUACCUUAAUGAACAUGCUCUUUACAUAAAAGUGAAAGAAAAAAGUGAUAUAUUACUUAUUUGUUUGGAUGUGAAUUAUUUGAUCUUUAUUGGAACUAAUCCAAUCAUGUUUAGUGAGUUCAAAGAAGUAAUAGGACAAAAGUUUGAGAUGAUUGGAUUAGUCUCAUAUCAUACUCUCUUGCCAUAGACUUGAAGACAAUUGAAAAGAGUACUUUUUAUUUCUCAAGAAGACCAUGCAAAAUAAAUUUUUAGAAAGUUUAACUUGAAUAUGUGUAAUAUGGUAAACACAAUAAUAUAAUGCAAAGCUAAAUUAUCAAAGACAUGUAGAAGGAGAAAAAGUGGAUUCAACAUAACAUAAAAUCUUAGUUGGAACCAUACACUAUUUGACUCAUACAAGUUCAAACAUUCUCUUUGGAGUUGGAUUUGUCCAUCAUUAUAUGGAAGCACUAAUGAUUAUUUACACUAAGACCUCCUAGUGAAUUUUUCACUACAUCAACGACACAUUUGAUUAUGACUAAUAUUAUUCACCUUUAACAAUUUUAGACUUGUUGGAUAUAAUGAUAGUGAUUAAGGUGGAGACUUGGAUGAUACAAAGAGAACCAAUAGCUUUGUAUUCAUCAUGGGAGAGAUACCAUGUUCACUUGGACUUCAAAGAAGCAACCUAUUAUGAAACUUUCAAUCUAUGAAGUGGAAUUUGUGAAAAUGUUUACAAAAUCUCAUAAUCAAAUUGUGAAAACGUUUACAAAGUCUCUCAAGUUUAAUGAUUUUAGAAUGCUAAAGAUGCUACUUUUACAAAUCAAGUUGAAGGCAUGAGUGAAAAUGUUGACAAAGUUUAAAAUUUUUAGAAAACUAAGGAUGCAUUUUUACAAACCAAGUUGAAGGGAGGAUGCUAGUUAACCUAGAUUUAGGAAGUUUCUAAAAAUUAGAAUUUGAGUUGGAUUCUAAAAUGCUUGAUUUAGUUUGUAUAUUUGUUAGUACAAGAUUUUAUAUUUUACCAUUAUGAGUAUCUUUUUUUGUUUUUUUAGGAGUUAAUAUCUAUAAAUAAGAUGUUAAUAUCUAAAUAUAUAAUUAAAAUUGUUGUGUUUGCAAUUUUAAUGAAAUCUAGCAUUGGAUACUUAACUACAUCCCACAAAACGACAAAAAAAUGGUGGCGAUUUCAUGGAGGCUAACCAUUCACUAGCCUUUAGCCAAGUUGUGUUUCAACAGUAAAGUAAUUACCUCAGUCAAAACACAAAAUUUAGUUUUCUAAACAAUUAUUGUUCUUGGAAAACAUGCAAGGAAUUUAAGCAACUUAAGGUACUUAAGCAAUCCUAGUUGGACGUCCAGUAUUCAGAUCUUUUCAUUAAUUGGUUUUUCUCUUUUUGUACCAACACCUGCUCUCUCUCUCCAGCAUGCAAGCAUAAGUGGUAGGCACCUCUUUUGUGCUUUAAAUUAAUUGAAUACUUUAUCUUAUUCCGCCAUUCUUUUGGGUCUAACCCAAAAAUACAUUUACCAUGCCUUCUUUUCAUGUCCUCAACUUACUCAUAAGUCCCAUUGGAUAUGAUGUACUGAGUUUCAGAUUUUUCAAGUAAAAUUAUCAACAUCGUCUAGCAUAUAUACUAAUAGGUUAUACUCUUUUCAACAGUUUAAAUUGUUUUUGUUAAUAGAUUAUAUGGAUGUUUUAACACUCAGAGAAAUUGAAAUGCAGCCAAAUAUGCAGAAAAAAAAAAUGGUUGUGACUAAUAGUUAUAUUUAUUCUCUUUUAUUUCUGUUGAUACUCAAAUUUUUAGGGAUAGAGCAUCAACAAUCCUUGUGAUGAGUUACUAAUGUUGAGAAAAGUCAAUGACUACACAAUGUAGCUUAAAACCACAUAUGUCAUCAAAGAAGACAUCAAUAAUCACCCCCACACAAUGAUAUGUUGUAUAAUUCAUUACUUGUAUCAAACACAAAUUUCCUUCAAUGUGUGUCUAUGAAUAAAAGAGAGUUCUUGGUUUAUAUUCGACAUACACGCUAUAUAGGCCAUGCUAAAAGCAAUUGAUAACAAGAAUCUCAACACUGAAGUCCACGUAGAAUCAAGUGUGCACCAUAUUGGGGUUGCAUAGUUAGGAUACUGAAGGGAGCAUGAGCAUAGGAUGGCGAAAGUUCAAAUGAGAAGUGUUGUAAGAUCAUUGCCAAAGCUAUUUUUGCCUCCAUCAUUGCAAAAUUUUGUCCAAUGCAUACCCGAGGACCCCAACCAAAUGGGAAAAAUGAAACUUGGUUUUUUGUUGCCUUCAAAACUGCUUCUGCAAACCUCUUUGGAUUAAACUCCUUUGCAUCAUCCCCCCAAAUUUCAUGAUCAUGGUGAACUAGGAUGGUGGGCAACACGACCUGCACUCCAACUGGAAAACACAUGUCUCCCACUUGAGUGUCCUUAUAAACAGCUCUAUGAAGCAUUGCUACUAGUGGGUAUAACCUAAGAACCUCAUGAAAAAUCAUGGUAACCUGUGGUAGAGAAACUUUAGAAGUUGUUGCAUGAGAAUUCCUACUAAAAUACAUUCUAAAUCAGUAUGAAGGACACUGAAGAAUAAAGCAAUUUCUUAAAAUAGUGAUGCAGAAGAGAAAAUGUUCUAAAUCAUGCAUAACAAAAUAUCAAGUAUGCAAAGGACAUUGCAUAUCCCAUGCAUAUAACAACUUAAGAACCUCAUGAAAAAUCAUCAUAAUCUAGCAGAGGAAUUUGAAAUCAUGGCAUGAGAACCCGUUCCUGAGGUACUAAGUGAAAGCAAAUGUUUAGUACAAGAUAUAAAAACUUAAGAGAAACGUGUUUUCAAUUUUACUCCAAUUAUGGGGAAAAAAACAGAGUACUAUAUGAUUUUAGUGAGAAUCACUAAACUAAAGAUUGGAUUGAGUACUCACAAUUUUUAGGUGAUUUAAUCCAUCAGCUUCCGGUUUUUUAUUCCCAAAAACUGUAAAACCUCUUCUCUUGCACAAGCUUGCCAGUUUGGAUGCUCGCUUAGCAGGACCAUUGUCCAUACAAGCAAAACUGAGGUUGUCUCUUGGCCAUCAAGAGAGAAUAGCUUACACUCUUCAAUGACAUCUUUGACACUCAUUCCAAUCUUCUUGUUAUUUUGAUGUUCUUGAAUUUCUCUAAAAUUGGAUUCCAUUAGUAUACCUAAUAAGUCACUACUAGCAGUUUCGCCAGCCUUCAUUGCCUUCUCCCUAUUGCUAACGAUACCCCUCAACAAUGCAUAUACUUCUUUGCUUAUUUGCUUCAUCCUCCUGUUCCGUCUUUGUGGGUAAAAACCUGCGCGCAUGUUAGUAAUUCUAGUAAAUAAAACAUCACAUGAAACACACAUACAUUAAUUCUUAUUUUCAUCCAUGCCUUCUACUUCUCCAUUAAUUUUUUGAAACUUGUAUAAGGCUUCAAAGGUAGAAACUAUGAAGACAAUAACUAAUGGUUUCAUCUACACAUGUGUUGUAGUGGUAUCUCAUCAUCUUGACACAAUAUCCUACAAACAUAAGAUUGAGGAUACUAAACAUCAAUUAGAGAAACAUACUACUUUCUAAGUGUUAUACAAAAGAAGUAAUUGACUAAAAGGGGAUGAAGUGAUCUCAGAGUUGUAAAUCUAAUAUCUCUUAUGCUUGACCUUGAAAAGUAAUCCAUUUUUAACAUAAAUUCUCUUCGAACAUAAAUUCCCUUCAACCUUGUUAGCCAAACACACACUUGAGCAUUGUGAAACUUUCAACCUAUGAAGCGAAAUUUGUGUUGGCAUCAUUUGUAGGUCAUGAAAUUUGUUCAAGAAACUUAAAUUACCACACAAGAGACUGAUAAAGAUCUAUAUGGAUAUAAAAUCAACAAUUACCUUAUGAGAAAAAUCUAGUUCUCCAUGAUGGUGUUGAAUUUUGAAUUUUGCCUUAGUAUCUGCUGGAAUUUGAAUUUUGAAGUUAAAUUUUGUAGCUGGAGUCUUACAAAAAAUAUGCAACAUCCAAAUAUUUUAUUGUUUUUAUUUGGUCAAGAUUUGGUUUCUAUUUUAUUGGAAGUAAUUGUUCAUCAUCUAGUAGCUUGAUUUUCUAUUAUUCUAAUGUCAUUUCAGUUACAAGCUCAUGUAUAAAUUCAACACUCUUCAUCAAUAAAAUGUGUGUUCCAGCAAUCCAAAAAUAUAUAUUCUGCAUAAGUGUUUCAAUCUAAGAUCAACAGAUGGAAGACAGUAUAUUGAUACAAAAUAUCAUUUAUUAUAGAGUACAUUAUGAAAUAUGAAGUGCAAUUAAAAUUUACAAAAUCUCAUGAUCAAAUUGUGAAAACAUUAACCAAGUCUCUCAAGUUUAAAGAUUUUAGAAAGCUAAGGAUGCUAUUUUUACAAAUCAAGUUGAUGGGAGGAUGUUAGUUAAACUAGAUUUAUAAAGUUUCUAAAAAUUAGAUUUUGAGUUAGGUUUUAAAAGUUAAUUAAAAUAUUUUAUACAAAAUUCUUGAUUUAGUUUGUAUAUUUUGUUACUGCAAGAUUUUAUAUUUUACUAUCGUGAGUAUCUAUUUUUUUUAGGUGUUAGUUUCUAUAAAUAAGAUGUUAUGUAAUAGUUGAUCAAGUGUACAGGUGGAUGAUAAUAAAUUUUUUCUUAAUCAUCUCAAUUAUUUAUAUAUGUAAUUGCUUAUGUGUUUUUUCAACCACAUUGCUGCAACAUAGGUGAAUCUGCUGGUUGGUCUAUAAAAAUUCAUAUCAAUUGUUCAACCUGUUACAUUCUGUUAGGCUUAUGUAACGAUGUAGAUUAUAGUCUCUUUCCCUAAAAUUUCAUGGUGUUAACAUUUCAGGAAAGCAAAAUUUCCUAAAAUGGAAUAUGGUGUGCAAGGACAAAGAGACUUAUUAGGCAUCUAAACUCCAGGGAAAUCUGUCGAAACACUGCUGCAAAAAGAAAACAAAGCCCCAAAUAACUCUUUGAUCUUUUGUACCAAGCAGACUCGUGUAUGAAUAGUUUCAGAAAAAUAAGCUGCAUAUUUCUUGAAAUAUUUUUAUGCAUACCUCCAUCCCGGGAUAUAAACUGACAUUGUAACUGUUAAAAGGUAGUCUUUUUUCUUAUUUUUCCUUGUGUGUUGAAUACAAUACUAUAUAGAUUCAGAACAAAGGAACCUAUUCUAGCCUAUACAUAUCUUGCGGCAAAAAAUAAGGCCAUCCCUUGAAGUAUGGGAUUUACAUAAACAGAUUUCUAUACUUAUCUCAUUAGACAGCUCACGACAACACUCCCCCUCAAGUUGGUGCAUAGAUAUCUUUUAUGCCCAACUUGUCAAGUGAGUUGUAGAAAUUCCUUACAAACACUGCUUUUGUGAGUACAUCAGCCAACUGGUCUUCUGAUUUGACAAAUGGAAGCUGAAUAAUCUUUUCUUCAAGGUUUUGUUUGAUGAAGUUCCGAUCCACCUCAACGUGCUUAGUGCGAUCAUGUUGAACCGGAUUGUGGGAGAUAGCAAUGGUCGUUGUGUUAUCACAUAACAAGUUCAUUUCGGAACUAGGAGCAACAUCGAUCUCAGCUAGCAGCUUUUUCAGCCAAAUGAGCUCACAUAUUCCCUUGACCAUUCCCCGAAAUUCAGCUUCAGCACUAGAUAGGACAACUACUUUCUGUUUCUUGCUCCUCCAUGUAACUAGGUUGCCUCCCACAAAAGUAAAGUACCCAGCAGUGGAUUUCCUGUAUGUGAUGUUCCCUGCCCAGUCCGCAUCUGUGUAGCCAGCAACCUUCAAAUGACCAUUCUUUGAGAACAUAAGCCCUUUCCCCGGAGAGGACUUCAAAAAAUGAAGGAUUCGCAUUACAACAUCCAUAUGGUCUUCACUCGGCCGGUGCAUGAAUUGACUCACUACACUCACAGCAUAAGCAAUGUCUGGCCGAGAAUGAGAUAAAUAGAUGAGUUUACCCACUAACUGUUGAUACCUCUGUUUGUCCGCUGGUACCUGGUCUACAUAUUCUCCAAGUUUAUGAUUUUGGACAAUUGGAAUAUCAACAGGCUUACACUCUAGUAAUCCCACCUCUGCUAGCAAGUCUAGUAUAUAUUUCCUUUGGGAAAGAAAUAUGCCUUGUCUUGACCUUGCCACUUCAAUGCCCAAAAAAUAUUUAAGCCCCCCUAAGUUCUUCAUCUCAAACUCAGUUGACAAUUGAUCUUGAAGCCUGGAUAUUUCUUCUACAUCAUCCCCUGUAAUUAUCAUGUCGUCUACAUAGACUAUGAGGGCUGUUAUUUUUCCCAAUCGAUGUUUUGGGAAGAGAGUGUGGUCAGAGUUGCUUUGUUGAAAUCCAUAUUUCCUCAUUACCGAACUCAACCUGCCAAACCAUGCUCGAGGUGAUUGCUUUAGUCCAUACAAUGCUCGUUGUAACCUACAUGCAAUCUUUGCCUCUGAUGUAGCAGUAUAGCCUGGUGGAAUAUCCAUGUAAAUCUCCUCUUCAAGAUCACCAUGGAGAAAGGCAUUUUUUACGUCAAGUUGGUACAAUGGCCAAUCUAAGUUUGCUGCAAGAGACAACAGAACUCUAACAGUUUUUAGUUUUGCUACAGGUGAGAAAGUUUCCUGAUAAUCUAUACCAUGUUUCUGUGUAUAACCCUUUGCUACCAACCUCGCCUUGUAUUGAUCAAUCGACCCAUCUGCUUUAUAUUUAAUAGAGAAAAUCCACUUGCACCCCACUGUCUUCCUCUCUUCCGGCAACACACUCAAAACCCAUGUAUUAUUUUUCUACAACACCUCCAAUUCUUCUUUUAUAGCUUGAGCCCAUUUCAGAUCCGAGAAAGCUUCUUCAACCCUACUUGGAAUCUGACAUGAGGAGAGUGUAUGUGCAAAAGCUCUGAGAGGUUCAGAUAAUCUUUGUGUAGACACAUAAUUGGCUAUUGGAUACUUGGAUCGUCGUUCUUCUAUGUCUAGGGAGUAUCGAUUUGGAGGCUUGCCUCGAUUGUGUCUGAAAGGUAGAACAUAACCCGCAGAUGUAUCUAUAGCAUUAGUUUGUAAAGGUGUGGUAGGAGAGCUUACCUCAGGAAUAUUCUUAGUAGGAGGGUCGUUGGGUACUAACGAGUGAGGGAAUACAUCAGAUUCUGCAUCUUCCGAUGAUUCAGGUGCUGGUUCAGCUUCAGUUCUCAGAGGUUCAGGUACAGGAUCAUGUUCAACCAUGUCGUUGUCAUCAUUCGGAUGUGUUGGAUUGUCACCAACGUCUAACACUUCAACAUCAGACCAAUUCCGUUCUUCACCAUAGAUCUCCCCCUGAAGAGGGGAAUUGGAUAUCGGUGACAAAAAAAAAUUCAGAUUCAAGGAAGGUGACAUCCAUGGUAAUGUAGGUUCUUUUAGCAAUGGGAUCGUAGCAUCUGUAUCCCUUUUUGUGUACUCCAUACCCCAAGAAUAAACACCGGACAGCACAUGGGUCCAACUUAGUUCGUUGAUUUUUAUGGAGGUGAACAAAAGCAACACAACCAAAAAUUCGGGGAGGAAUCAUCAAAACAGUCGGUAAGGAGACAUGAUAAGAAAGCACCUUUAGUGGAGUCUGAAAUUGUAAGACUUUGGUGGGCAUACGGUUCAGUAGAUACACGGCUGUGGUAACAGCAUCACUCCAGUAUCUAUUCGGCACAUGUGCAUUGAUCAAUAGAGCACGGGCAGUUUCUAAGAUAUGCCUAUUUUUCCUUUCAGCAAUACCAUUCUGUUGUGGGGUUUGUGAACAUGAGGUUUCAUGGAGAAUACCAUGGUUGUUGAAGUAUGUCUGGAAUUAUUGAUUAACAUAUUCCCCUCCAUUGUCAGAACGAAUGAUCUUAAUUCUUGCAGAGAAUUGUGUCUGAACCAUGGCAUGAAAUGAUUGAAAAAUAGAAAAUACUUCAUCUUUGUGUUUUAGGAGGUAAAGCCAUGUCAUUCGUGUGCAAUCAUCAACAAAUAUUACAAACCAACGAUGACCAGAAGACGUAGUUACUAGUGAAGGUCCCCAAACAUCGGAACGUAUUAAAUCAAAAGGAACCAUACUUUUAUUCAUGCUCAUGGGAUAAGAAGCCCUAUGACUUUUGGCUAAGAUGCAAGUAUCACAUUUAAAACCUAAAUGUGUUACAUUUGAAAAUAACCCAGGUAAUAAGUGCUUCAAAUACCCAAAUGAUGGAUGCCCAAGUCGAUGAUGCCAUAACCAAAUCUGUCUCUCCUUGUUACCAACCUUGUGGUGCAUGUGAUUUGCUCUUCCCGAACUGAAGGCAUCCACGUAGUAUAACCCCCCCUCCUCUUAGUACCACACCCAAUUAUCUCAUUGGUGAGAAUAUCUUGAAGAAGGCAAAAAGUAGAAUACAUCAAUACCACACAAUUAAGAUAUGAAGUAACUUGGCUUACAGACAUCAAUCUAUUUGAAAGAGAGGGUACAAGUAAUGUAUUAGAUAAUGAAAGGGAAAGAGAAAAAGUCACUGUUCCAGCCCCUGUAACUAGAUAGGUGACCCCAUUAGCAUUUGCAACACAGCUCCUUCUCGGCUGAGUUGUAUUAGAGAAAUCCUUUGAAUCAAAUGUCAUAUGGUCUGUAGCCCCAGAGUCGAGAAUCCAGUCCUCAUCAUCCUUGUGAGUAGAGAUAUGAAAUGCCUUACUCGAAGUACCUGAAUCAUGUGAAGAUUCAGCUUGAGGAAUGAGGGAUAACGAAGCAUCACAAGUAACCACUGCAGCUCUCCUAGUGUGGUUAUCAUUAGCAAUGAUUUCCCAUUUUUUUCGUGCUUGAAGGUCAUUCCACCAAUCUGGAUAUCCAUGCAGUUUGAAGCAGGUGUCACGGGUGUGUUUGGAGUUGCCUCAAUGGGUACACUUCAUGUCGUCAGAUGGUGGUUUAGUUUUGGAUGAGGAGUUGGAUUUCCCGCUGCUUAGGGAAAGAGCUCCAGGUUUCGGUGGCAUCUGGUGAUGGCUGCCCUUGAUCCCUUUGGAAGCCAUAACUGCUCCUGGAGGAGUAUCUGCACCUGAGAUCAUCAAGGUCUGCCUGACCUCUUCCCUACGGACAAAUGCAUAGGCCUGUUCCACCGUAGGGAAUGGUUUAAUUUGUAGAACAUCACUCCGAGUUUUAUCCAAUCUGUCAUCUAGUCCAUCAAGGAAGGUAUAAACUCGAUCUUCUUGUAGAAUGGAAUUGUAUUUCUGUAUGUCAAUUGCACACUCCAUCGGGUUAGGACGAUGAAAAUUGAUUUCUCGCCACAGCCCUUGAAGGUUGUUGUAGUAUUUUUCAAUGGAUCCACCCGCCUGCUUCAUACGAGUAACCCGACGUCGGAGAUCAUAGAUGUCCCAUCAAAAUAGGUUAUAGAAGCAGAAUCCCAAACCUAUUUUGCAGUUGGGAAUCGGAUAAAAUUGGCAAUCAAGGAAGGGUCCAUCGAAUUGAUCAACCAUCCCUUGACAAUGGCGUUUUCGGUGCGCCAUCUCCUGAAUGAAGGAUCGGUUUCUGGAGGCUGAGGAGAAUCUCCAUUGAUAUAUCCCAGCUUGUCCUUGCCAGAGAUAUACAUCUCGACAACCUGGGACCAUAAGGCAUAGUUGGAUCCUUCCAACUUGAUACCGAUCGGAGUAGUUGACGAAUCAGCAAGCAGAGGUUGAGGGGAGGUCUGGGCUCUAGUCAGGACCUCGGUCACUCUUGUAGUUAGAUCGCUAAGGAUGGAAUCAGUCUGGGGAAUGAGAGGUUGUGUUAUGUCUCUAGAUUCCGCAAUGGAGUCUGUCGGUUCUGGUUUGACAAGAUUUGUUGUAUAUUAACGGAUAACCGGCUGGAAGGAAUCAGAGGGAAGCAGCGCUGGAAACUGACCAGGAAGAUGAAGAUGAUACCAGGUGGGUCUUCCGGAGUUUUUUCCUGGUCAUAGUGGCUGAGCAGAGGUCCUAGGGACGUGCUCUGAUACCAUGUUAAAAGGUAGUCUUUUUUCUUAUUUUUCCUUGUGUGUUGAAUACAAUACUAUAUAGAUUUAGAGCAAAGGAACCUAUUCUAGCCUAUACAUAUCUUGCGGCAAAAAAUAAGGCCAUCCCUUGAAGUAUGAGAUUUACAUAAAUAGAUUUCUAUACUUAUCUCAUUAGACAGCUCACACUAACAGUAACCUGGCUUGCAAAAUGUGUUUGUUCUUUCUGGAGCUAGAAUAUCCUUCUUCCUUCUUCAUAGCUACUACCAAAUGCUGUCCGAGAAAUCACAUCCCCUGUCAAAUUUUCAAGAUAGGGCCAAACAUCCAACUCACAUGAUCCCCCCACCGAAAGCAUUUUCCAUUUGGUCACCAUGUCGCUACAACUCAAAUGAAAUGCCGGCAACAUAUUCUAUAACAAAUUCAACCAAAAAAUAAAUUAAUAUCCAGUUUCAAAUUCAAUAUACAGCCAUUUAUCACUGACCUGUGAAAUAACAAUUUAACUAGUUCAUAAAGUAUGUACUACUUAAAGUCACCAUAUGUUAGGAAGAGUCAUAUGGGUGGAGGAUGAGGAAUAUUCAGUUUUACCAUGGAGGCACUGACUAAAGAAAUCAUAGAAAAAAAAUGAGCAUAUUCAUGAAAAGUUAGAUGUACUGGUAAUAUUAAUGAAAAGUUAGAUGUAUUGGUAAUAAGCAAGUAAGAUAAGAAAGUUGUUAAGAUCUUACUGUCAUAUGUAUCAAGUAUUUUGAUCCUUAUGGUUUACUUUGGCAAAUAAAACUUCUGAAAAUUUCUAUUGGAGACUGGAAAAAGACUUUAUAUGAGUAAGAAAAAAAAAACAAGGUAAAGGUAGGACACAUUGGGUAUGUGAAAAUACUUUAUUAAACUGAUCGAAAUAUUUGGGAAUUUCGAUAUUUAUACAGGUUUUUAGAAAAAAUUUUAUAAAAAAUUGGUAGUUAUUAUUUUUCGAAUACUAAUAUAAAUUUAUCUUUCAAAGACACAAUUUUAGUGUAGUUUUCAAGUGUUAAAAUUAUUUUUUUUAAAAGACAACUUUAUAAAAUUCAUUUCUUUUAACUUUUAAAUGAUAACUUUCUAAUUAGUAUCUAGCAAACUGAUGUAGAAUUGAAAAUAAUUUUUCAACUAACAUAUUUUAGAAGAUUAUAUAUAUAUCAACCUAAGAUACAUGAGAUGAGAAAUGGGUAUUCAUAACCUCCAAAUCUUAUAUAUAUUAUCGCUUAAAUUUUUGUUCCACUGCAUUCACAUGUUCAAUCUCUUUUCCAACAGUGGGAGGGCUAUGCAGAGAUUAUGGAACUGUAAUAUGUCACAAUUGAAACAGUUUCAAUUAUGGAACUGUUUGUUCACUUUCACAGUUUGUGAAAAGAUUAAAAAAAAAAACAUGGAAAUUAAGGUAAAAUAUUCUGGUUUGGAAACUGGGCAUUGAAAAUUACCUUCAACUUUUCUAGAUGGAAAGCUGGGUUGAUGAUCUUUCUACGUUUAGCCCAUCGUUCGCCUUCCAAGGUCACCAGACCAGAAACCAGCAACUUGCCAAGUGGGUGUGGGGGUGGCUUUUGAAAGACAUUGGACUUUAGCAAAACAUCCCUUAUUAGCUCAGGCUCCAUAAUGUUUACCAUUGGAUUUGGACCGAACCAUGCAAAGGAAUUUUUACCUGCACGUUUAUGCCAUUAUUGGAUAGUGUUAGCCUCAAAUUGCUUUUAAUUUGGACUUCACACAAAUUCAACUUUGGGUAUCAAAAUUUAGUUGAACCCAACUUGGACCAUCGAAAACAAUGAAAACUUCAGCCAUAGUUUCUAUGAUGAGUUAUUAUAAAUGGACUAAAUCAUUUUUUCAGAAUUGUCUCAAUGUCAAUUGAUAUUAAGGAAUGAACUCUAUUCAUUGUAGCCUUGAGAUUAAAUAAUGAAAUCAAGAGGGCUAUCAAUAUGCUUGGCAGGCUGGGUGACAGUUUUGGAUAGAUGCAACAAUUUUAAUUAUAUAUUUAGCUUUGGAUUCUUUCCAGAGAAUAUUCUGCAAUCUAGCAUGGGAUACUUAAAGACUACAUCCCACAAAAAGACAAAAAAAAUGGUGGCAAUUUCAAGGAGGCUAAUCAUUCGCCUGCCUUUAGCCAAGGAUUAGUUCCAAACAAAACCUUCCGAAAAGAAAGGGGGAGAGCCCUUCUGGAUGGACUUGGCAUCGACACAAUAGAAUUGGCAUCGAAAGAAAAAUAAAGAUUUAACCAAUUGAGCACAAAUAACUGACAUAAAAAUUAACACUUGAAAAAAAAAGUUGAAAAUUUGGCAUAAAUUAAAAGUUAUUCACAGCUCCCAGAAAUUAAACAAUUGAAAAGUAAAAACAGUACUUUUCAAAGUGGUUAAGAAAUACAGUUAGCAAAGAUUACGAACUACCACUGAAAUCUAAACCUUUGGUGUAAUUUAAAAAAGAGGAAAAAAACAGAAAGGAAAAGAAAAAUAGUUAGGAAGAGAAGAGCAGAAAACAAACAAAAGCUUUAGGGGAGUAUAAAAAAGUUGGCCAUAAUUUGAAGAGAUCAGCAAACUUUAAUACUAUGAUGAAAAGUAAUAAGUCAUAUCGGUACCGUAUUUCUUAAUGAAAUGAAAAUGGAAGGGCAGGACACGUGGAGUAGUAUCAUCGGAGAGGCUGAUUGGUCUUGAAUAUGCUUCUUUUAACAUCAUGGACAUCUCUUUGAAGUCCCCAUGUAAAAGCCUAUAAGAAUUCCCAGCCAGGCCUUGCUCUCUAAGGCAUCUUUCUAACCUCUUUGGCCUCAACCACACCCAAUUCAGUAGCCUCCAUAAACAGCUUAUGAGCACAGUAAGGAACCCAAAAGAAAUUGCAACUGAGCUAUGCUUCAUUUCCAGUUUGAGGGACUUCUAUCAGGAGAGGUAUGUUAAAUCACUUCAGAGUGAGAAAAUGACUUUAUGCUGCCGCUGUGUAUAAAUUGGCCCCUAUUCUAUUCCCUCGUGCCGGCAAACAUAGAAGAUUUCGUAAAUGCCUAAUGGGGAGAAGAAUGACUAGUAUUUUAAAAUCUAUAAAUUAUCUAUUUUAAUUGUCUCCAUCAAUAUGGCUUUUAAACUUCUCAAUGAAUUAUUAAUUUAUUCUAUUUGAUGCAUUUCAAAGUUUGUGCAAUCGUCACUGCUUAUUAAAAACUGUAUAUGCCAUGAAUGUAGAAGGCAAAAUUUGAGCAUACGGAAUAUGGAAUUCUAUUUGAUGGACCAGCUUUCACUUGUGAGUCGAUGGAGCAUGUGGAUGCUCACUUUCAGAGCCUCAAGGGACAGCUCGCAUCCCUCACAUCUUGGCAGAUGUCUCAGGGUGCUUCCAGCUCUACAACUCCAUCUGAUCUGGACUUUUUGAUACUUCAUGUUUUUUUGAUACUUUAUGUUUUUUUUUUUUUGUUUUUUGUUUUUUUUUUUGUUUUGUUUUGUUUUGUUUUGUUUUUUUGUUUUUGUUUUUUUUUUUUUUUUGUGGAUAAGUUUAUUUUGUACACCUAACCCAUGUUGGCUCAGUUUAUCACAUAUUUUGUUUGUCUAGAUGUACUUUUAUUUUCUUAUCUCUUGUAUCCAGAACCUUUUUUACCAUAUAUGUCCAUGUGUUUGCUUUUCUUUUCUCCUUUUCGUAUGCUUACUGCUUCAUCAUGCUCUUUGUCAUUUUUUGCAACAAAAAAGGGGAGAUGGAUUGUUGAUUUGAUUGAGUGUUUUGAUAUUCAUAUUUUUUUUACAUCUGUUUCGUGGCUUGCACCCUUACUCGUAUACCUAAUUUGAUAAAAUUGAUCAGUUAUCUUUCUUCCCACACACUACUUUACCUGGGUAUGUUGUUUAGUGUGUGGAAAUUCUAGGUACUAGGGUAUUGCUCAUUUUUUGGAUGUGGCUUCUAGUCCUUUGCACGUUAGAUGAUGAAUUGGUUUAGAUAAGAGGUAUUGAGAGAUUUGUAAACUCCAUUUGAGAGUAUUGAGGGGUUUAUGCAAUUUGUAGUUUAUCACAAAAUUGCAUAGGGGAGAGAUUGUUCGUACAUUAGGUGAUGUAGUUUAAAAUUGUCAAUUUUGUUCUAUUCAUUUUGGUUUAGGAUCUUUCUAGAUUGUGUCUCACUCCCCAUUGAAGACUCAAGGUUAUUAAUUGAUCAACUAGGAUUACAUAGGUAGGUGUAAAAAGAUUUGGGAAAGACAAGUUAGUGUUUGGUAUGACAUGGCAUGGAUUGAGUAGUUUAACAUUGAUGAGCAAAAUGAUUUUCUAACCGGGUUUAAAAAAUGCCUAAAGCGCUCAAUCACUCUAAGAGCAUUUGAGUCCUAGCAACAAAAUUCUCUAGAAUUUUGGAGAUCUGUCUUUCUAUUUUUAAAGGAUUUAUUUUGAGGAACUUUUUAGAAUUAGUCCACUAGGUUCCUAGGCUUAUAUAUACAUUGCCUAAAAAGGUUUUUGGUUUGAUGCUUUUGAGUUGAAAAACCUAGAUUGUCUUCCUAUUUCCAAAAUUCUAAAAGAAACAUUCAUAUUUACUUAUGCAUAGUUGAGAUGGAGAUUUGUAUCCUCCUCAAGUGCUGAAGUGAGAUCCUCUAUGAGCACAUGAGAUGUUGCAUUGUGGAAGCAAAACACAAUGUAAGUGUUAGGUAGUAAGUCUUAGUAGUAGCUUUCUAAUGCGACUCAUGGUAGCUUAGUUUUAAAGGCGUAUCAACAAAAUUUAUACCUUGAAUACUAUUACUAAAGUAGCCAAGCUACUAUAGCAUAGUGGUUCUAGGAUUGUUCACUGGGAAGGGUUUUCGCAAACACAAGUGAUAUUCAAAUUAGGAAAAUAGGUGAUUUUCUUAUGGAUGUUAGCUUUAAAAGAAGAUGUAAAUGUUUUAGAAAGAUUUAAACUAAUCUAAGCUAACAUUAAAGACUAAAAUGAAAGGGUGUAAAAACAAGUUUCUCAAAGAUAGGAUAGCUAUGCUCUGACUCUUAUGCAAAUUGGAAAUCUCAAGAUAGGCUCCUUGAGUUGGGGUUGCAACUAUGGUGAUGCUUGCUUCCCGAACCGGUAUGGAUUUAACAAAUCAAGUUUUAAUCCUUUAAAAUGGAAAAAUAGAUGGUAGUGAAUUUCAUCAAUGGUUAUUCACCUUAGACUUCCUUUGAAUGGCUUGUAAGAGAUAACUAAUGGUCUAAAGCCAAAAGCUUCCCAAAUAUUGGCAACUCAAAGUCAUUCCAAGUGAUAAACUCACCUUUCAAUGGCCAUUGAAAUUGGUUAUAACGGAUUAAUGCAAAACUUGGAAUUGAAAACCUCACCUUCCAAUAGCUCGUAGGAGAUAACUAAUGGAUAGAAAUCCAAAAGCUUAUCAAGUAUUGGCCGUUGGAAGUUGUCCAAAGGAAAUAAAAACCAAACUUUGCAUUAAUGAACCUUUAAUGAAAAACGGCUACUUUACCUUCCGGGUGCGAGAAAUUUCCAUGGGAUUGCAUCCAAGUCAUCACAUAACAUCCAUACUCUGAGAAACUAAAAGUUUUAGCCAAUCAUCCUCUGAAGAAAAGCUCUCAGAGGCUGUUUGGCUUCCAAGAAAAUAAAAUAGUAAAGAGAAAAGAUAAACGAGAGAGCUCUCCCCUGUUUUCUAAGUGUAAAACGUAAUAUGUAUCAUAUCCUUCCAAGAGGUGAUUUCCACCCCUUAUAUAGUCUUUACAAAAGCAAAAGCUUGUGAUUGGUUAGUUACAAGGAUAAGAAAGGAAAUUACAUCAAAAAAUACAUAAGAAAAUAUCUAAAUUGGAGUCGGCAAAAACAGAGCAAAAUUCGCACCACGCAUGGGCUGUGCGAAUUUUGAAGGUGUUGUGCGAAUUUCGCACAACACAAGGUGUCGUGCGAAUUUCGCACAACACAAGGUGUCGUGCGAAAUUUUCGCACAACCUAGAGCGGUUGGCUUCCGAAGGCCAUAUCUUCCUCAUUUCAGCUCCAAAUCAUACACGGUUUGAAGCAUUGGAUUCUUGACUUCCUGAGCUUUCAAAUGGUAUAUAGAAUGUAGAAAAUGGACUUCGGGAAGUGCUCCAAAAGUGCGAAAGAAUACUGCAGCUGCUGUCCUCUGAUUUUUUCACUUUGCUUUCCUCUUCUCCAUUGUUCUUUCCUUGCAUACUUUGAACGACUUUGGCAAAGGGCUAUGGAGCUCCAAAGCUUGGUUCUUCAUGAAUUUGAGCUUCCAAAAGCUUUGCCAUAACUUGUCCAAUUAGCUCCUCCAUCAUUUGGCAUGCUUGAAUUGAUUCAUAAGCUGAUAAAAACAUGUAAACUUGCCACAAAAUGGUUAAAACCAAUUACUAAGGACCUUAAUGAAUUAAUUGGGUUAAAUGAAUAUGAUUACUACUCAAAGGUGCUUAAAACCAUUAUAAUUAGGUCUACAAAAUAGCACUUUUUGGUAGUAAUCACUUUCAUCAGGUAAAAUUGAGUACAUACCCCAUUAUAUAUGAUGGAGAGCUCCUCAAAUGCAUAUCCUAGAAUCAAAAUCAAUUGAUACUAAAUUAACACCUAACCCAUAUUUCAAACAAAAUCUUGCUAUUUCACAUUUUCAGCACCAAUCCAUGAAAAUGGUGUUUUUGGGGAGCAAUUUCAAUUGAUUUAGAAGAUCAUAUGAGAUCUUACUCUUCCCAUCUUGAGACUUGAGACUUAAGAGUAAUCUGUUUUCAGAUAGAUUCAAUAUCACUAUUUGAUUAAUUUCUAUGUACAGUAUGUUUUUCUAUAUUUUAAACUCAUAAAAAUUCCAUCCUUUUAAUUCUAUUAGAAUAACGUAAAUCAUAUGGAAGUUAGAUUCUAAAUCUCCAAUCUUCACAUCAUCAAGUAUCAACUAUAAGAACUCAAACUCAACACUUUAGUGGCUCUAAAGAGUCUAUUUUAGUGCAUUUGAGGUAUUUAAAAAUGACCUAAUGCUUGUUUAUUGUGCAUCUCUCAAGUGUGCCACCAAACUAAAUUGCACACUCCCUCUAGCAAUUUAAAUUGACCACUUUCCCCAUGAUUCAAAUGUUGCAUGGCCCCUCAACAAUUGAACCCAACAAGAGCACUCAAGUUGUGCAUGUCUGUAACAUCUUAAUUGCACUUUUCCCUACCACUAUAGUAGUGUAUCCCUAGGGCCACUCAACAUGCAUUGUCACGCCCCAAAGCCCACUCCAAGGACAUGAUGAUCUUUUCACACCUAGCUCAAGCCCAAGGGCUCAAAGUGGAAACGACACAAACAUUUGUAUUGUAACUGGAAAUUUAUUAAUUACUAAAUUCCUGGAUCAAACAUUUUAAUUAUGCUUGCAAAUAGGAGAUAUAACAUAUACUUAUUUUCAUAAAAACUUUUGAGCUCAAAAUGCUAAUACCUUCAAACUUUUCAACAAAAAUUUCUCAUAUCCAUUUCAAAACAAUUUCUCAUCAAACCACUCCGAAUACAUUCAAAAUAUCUUUACUCUGGUUAUCGUAUGACAAAUGGUGCCCAAUUAGGUGGGACCUUGCAAUUGAGUAACUAGUUUCAAAUUUGUUCGAUUUAAGGUUAACAAAACCAAAUGUCAACAAUUAUAACCCAUUGACUAGGGUCAUAAGGUCAACUAUUAUAAUCCAUUAACUAAGAUCAUAUAAUAUCAACUAUUAUAACCCAUUGACUAAGGCUAAAAAUGUCAACUAUUAUAACCCGUUGACUAAGGCCAUAUAAUUCAGAGUCAAAUAUUUUAUUUCAUUAAUUCAAACUUACAAAACAAAACAUCAUAUCUCCUCAAUUUUUCAUUUUUCAUAAACAAAGAAUAUACUCAAAUAUACUUUCAAUACAAAACAUAUAUUUGAUUUAUGUUUAAAGAUAAAAAUAAUAUUUUUACACAUUUCAAAAUACAAUAUAAAAAGAAAAUUAUUUUCUUUUACAAAAAUCUGCAUUAAUUUCAUUUACCUUGAAGAAGCACUCAAAAUCUUAAAUUAUUUAGCUUUGAAGAAUUUCCUCACCUAACAUAAUAUCAUACACAAUAUUGAUUAUUGAUUGUUUAUCUAAAUAUAUAAAUUUGACAAUCUUAAAAAUAUUUUAUUUAGUAUUAGGGAUCCUAAUUAAUUUCUCAUGUUAAUAUUAUUACCAUCCAAUAUUAUUUUCAACUUCCUAAACAAUAAUUUAUUUCUUUUUUCUAACUUAUCUAAAUUAAAUCUUUUAAGAAUAUUUAUUUGCAUUAAACAUUAUUACUAUUAUUUAAAUCUCCUACGAAAACUUAACAAAUUCCCCAUACAAAUCUUUUUUUUUCCCAGCAACUUCACACCAACUCCAUUCAUUAUUAUUAUUUCUUUUAUUAUUAUUAUUAUUAUUAUUAUUAUUAUUAUUAUUAUUAUUAUUAAUUUCAAUACCCAACAACAGCUUAACCUAUUUCUCUUCCAAGCCAUCAACGUCCUUUUCUUCCUCAUUGUUUACCAAAAUACUAUUUACUUCCUUUCCUAGGUCAAUGUGCUGACCAUUUCUUAGUUUUUUUUUUCAACAUACAUCUUUCAUCAUUUUUUUUCUCCUCUCUAAAGUCAAAACUUUUAAUCUCCAUACUCACAAAUUUUAUGUUAUUUUCACAUCCGAAACUAUAUAUAUAUAUAUAUAUUUAUCUAGAUCUAUUCGUUUGAGCAAUCAAAAUUUGUCGAUCUCCAUUAAUAAAUCAAACUAUGUUCAUAUUUUUUUAAAUAUUUUUGACCUAAAUUAAUUAAACGAACUCUAAUCAAAGAAUAUCUAUAGUGUUCAAAACUAAUUAACGAAUAUAAAAUAUUAAUUUAAGUAUUAAAAAUCUUACUUGAAAAAUUGAUCUUCAAAUCCUAAACCUUCAAAUCUUAAACCAUAUGCUCUCUAAUAUUUCUGGUCUCUAUGUAAAAGGGUUUUCUGAAUAGAGAGGAUGGGAAAAGUCUAAUUUAUACCUAGGAGUUUUAAAUAAGAAAAUACCUUUUUGCCCUUAUUAAAUUACUUAAUUAAUUAUUAAUUUCUAAAUUAUGAUUUUACCCCUAAAUUGGGUUUAGGGCAUUAUAUGCACACUAUUCCCACUUUUGCAAAGGUUGCGCACCUGAGAAAACUCCUUUCAAUGAUUUGUUCACUCACCAAAGUAAUGCAAGCAUCUAAGCCUUAAGUCAUCAUCUAUACUAUCAAUUCUCCCAUACUGAUUGCAUUGAAAGCUAAGUGCAACCACCAACUCCAAGUUGACAAGUCAAGUACAAGAAAGAUGGCUAGUUGACUACAUUGACACAUGAUCUGAUCCUCAACAUGGGCAAGAGGUAGUUCUAGGAGAAUAGUUUGAGCAAUAAGAAUGGAUUACCUAAAGGGAAACCCAUCUAUAAAUAGAGGAUUGUUUGGGCGCGUGCACACAUACACACACACACACACACAUAUAUAAAUAUGUAUGUAUGUAUGGGGAGAAGAAAAAAAAAAGGAAUGUUGAAGAGUUUGAAUCUUUAAUGGAGGUGAUAUUAACCUUCUUAGGAUUUAGUUAGGAAUUUAAUUUGGUAAUUAAAAUGACAAUUAAUUAUUUGGAUAGGAUUUGUUAGGUAGUUUCCUAUUUCUUUCUAUAUAUUUUCCUUAUUUUUAUAGGUUUCCUAUAGUUAUAUAAAUAGAGAACAUUUUCUCUUCUUUUCCCUAUGAAUGAAUAUAUGACUAGGUAAAAUUAAGCUACACGUUUCUUAAUGGUAUCAAAGCCAAAUUCUAAUUACUAGGAAUAAUGGUUAAAAUAGCAAUGAUAGAUGCUUCCAAUUAUGAUAACAACUUGAAGGAGGCAGAAAGAAAACCUAUCCCUCAUUAGAAUUUUGUGACCAAUGGUCAUGGUCACUCUUCUUAGCUAAUUACCUCUCACAAAUUAACUUAAUGGAGAAAAUUAUCUUUAAUGGCCUCAAUUUGUCAAACCUUUCAUUCAUGGGCAUGGACAAAUUGAAUAUUUUAUUAGAGCAACAUCAAUACCACAAGGAAUAAUUCUCAUCAAGACAUAGGAAGUAGAUAAUGUCAUGAUUAUGUCAAGGUUGAUCAACUCAAUGGAACUCAAGAUUAGGAAGACAAACACGUUCAUGACCAUAACUAGAGAGAUUUAGGAGGCUACCAAGGAAACCUAUUACGACUUGGUAAUUUGCUCAGGUCCACGAGAUAGCCAUACAAAUAAAAAAUACUAAGCAAGGUAAUAUGAAUGUAAUUCAGUACUAUAAUACACUCAAAACUCUUUGGUAAGAACUUAAUUCGUUCUAUGAUUAUGAAUAACAUUGUGCAUAAGAUAGUGAAAUGUUCUAAAAGAUGAUUGAGAAGGAUUGAGUAUUUGCAUUCCUAAUGGGGUUUAAAUAAUAAAUUAGAUGAGGUUUACCUCUUUACUUAACAUUACCCUAGUUAUUACAAAACCAGUAAGCUUCACAUUUCAGCCAAUGAUCCAAAAUUCAAAAGGAUUCAUGGAAGGCCCUAGUGUGACCUUCAUCUCCUUUAAAUGCUUCCAGAAUUCCAAAUAUUCAUUGACAAGUGAUUAACCAUCAUCUUUUCCAAAUGCAUCUUUAGAUGUCAUAUACCCAAAGGUGUUCAAAUUCGUAAGAUAUUAACCAAGUCUAGAUAUUAAAAAGGUAUAUCAUCCUCUACCAUUAGAAAGAAGAACAUACAUUAUCCUCUAUUAGUGAAAGCACAUAUGUCAUCAUCUCAACAAAUCAAGCAUGCGUGCAAAUUUGUCUUCUUGGUCUUCUAAUUAUGGUCAAGCAAGUAUUAAUGAAGUACUUAGUUUGAAGCAUCUGUUUAUCAUCUAUAGUGGUUGUAGUUGCUAAUCCAAUAAUUGCACUCCUUUGAAAGUGGUACAAAUUAUUCUUCCUUAUUCCUUGCAUCACCACAAGUUUACUUGGCAUAACUUUCAAAAUCCCAUAUUUUAUAGUAACAAUAUUGAACCCUAUGGGAUCUAAUACUCCAAUUGAGAUGAGACACUUAUUCAUACUAGGAACAUACCAAACAUCACUCAAAAUUUUAGUUGAUUCAUCAUGAGUCUUCAACUGGAUGGUAUCUAUUAUUGUUAUCUCACAAGCAUUAUCAUUCCCCAUGUAAACAACUCCAUCUUAUAGUUCUUUAAAGCAAGAAAACCACUCCUUGUAAGAAUGCAUGUGAAGGUGGACCUAAUAUCCAAAAUCCAUUCAUCUAAGUUAUAAAACAAGGAUAAGCAAACCAAAGCAAAGUUUGACCCAUCUUCUCCAAACUUAGCCACACAAGCAUCGAAUACUAUUUCUUCUUUAUUCUUAUUUUGUAGCUUAGGACAAUCAUUAUUCUGACACUACCAAAAAUUAAGUAUGGUUGAACCAUUUAUAUUUACUUUUCUGACAUAUUUAAGUUGACGCAAAUUGAAUUGUCUGUCGCUUAUAUGUAACUAUUUACCAACAGUAAUUGCAACAACAAAUACCUGUCGGCAAAAAUAUUAUUGCAAUGGAUUUAAACCAUUGCAAAUGUUCAACUAAUAUACUUUGUUACAAAAGCAAUUUACCUAUAAAAUAGAAAAAAAAUAGUUUUAUUAUAGUGGAUAAUAAUACCACACAUAAUUUGUUCCAAAAAUAAUUGUAGUCAUAUGAAUAUAAAAUAUUUUCACCAUAGUUGUAUGAUAAAUACGAUAUAGCUAGUGACAAAACAAUUUUAUGAUUAUUUUUUUAGGUUCAUACAAUAUUUACAUUUUUUUUAAUCAUAAUGGUUUUAACAUUUUAAUAUUUUUUAACUACUUUUAAUUGUCCAUUUUAGAAAGAAAUACAUUAAAUAUAUAUAUAUAUAUAUAUAUAUAUAUAUAUAUAUAUAUAUAUAUAUAUAUAUAUGUAUGUAUGUAUGUAUGUAUGAUAUAAUUUAUGAUAUCGAAUAAUAAUAUUUAAAAUUUAAAAAUACAUUUUAUAGAGAUUUAUCUAAUUUGAAUGUAUUCAAUAACAUAAAAAAAAUGAUAGUACAUGUAUAAGUAUUUUUAUUUUAAAAUGUUGAUAAUUUUAUUUAUAAAUUUAUAUUUAUUUUAUAUUUAAUUAUUAUACAAAAUACACAAGAAUCAAAAUUAAUUAAUUUAUAAUAAAUUUAUUUUAAUUAAUUUAUAUAUAUAUAUAUAUAUAUAUUAGUUCAUGCAUGUAUAAUUUAUAUAUAAUAUGUAUUUAUAUAUAGAUAAUAUUUAUUAUAUAACUGCUUAAGUAUAUAAUAUUUCCAUUUAUGAAUCUUAUAUACAUUCUUUAUAUUACACAUAACAAAGUUGACUUGGAGGCACAAUUGCUUCCUUUCAAACUUGAGGUCAAGGGUUCAAUCUCAAGAAACAAUAUCCAAGCCAAUAUCCAAAACUAGCAAGGAGAGGAGUGUACAAGAUGCUCCAUGUGAAUGUAAUGAAAUCGAAAUUUCAUGAAAACCUAAAAUCUUUUAUUACUUAUAUUUCUCAACCAACUUAAUUUGUUGGUAAUAGUGAUGGUCUAAAUCCAUUGGAUAGUUUGUCGCUAAAUAUUUUUUAUUGGCAAUGGAAAAUUCCCAUCAAUAGACUUUUGCCAACACACCUUUCCUCUCCUACCAUGCGAUGGGAUUAUCAAUUGGUAAAUGUUUAUUUUGACUGUGCAUAUUAGUCGAGAAAAGUCAAAUUUCUUGUAGUGCAAUGACCCUUGUCAUGAAAAAAGACACAUUCAUCUUUUGCAAGUAUACAUUUAAAUUAAGAAUUGUCUUCUUUUCUAGGUUUUCAACUUUGAGAUUAGUCAUUAACUGUUAAAGCUUCCAAUGAUAUAUCUCUAUGAUCGCUAUGGUCCUUCUUCCUUUAUUUAGAGCUUAGCAAAGUGGAACACACAACAUUGAAAGUAAUCUUAUCCUUACCAUAAAGUAAGGUGAUGGUAAGAUCUUCAUACACAUCAAGAAACAAAUUCAAUAACAAUAAGGCCUUAUUCUCAUCUUCAAUGAUCUCAUCUAAAUUCAACAAAUUUGCUUCGAUUCUAUCAAAUGCGUGCAUAUGAUCAUUCAUAGACAUAUCUAGUUGAUACUAGAAGCAAAAAAGUUUUUUCUUCAAAUAUAGUUGAUUUUCUAGACCUUUUUUUUCAUAUACUUGUCCUCCAAUGUCUUCCAUAAAUGUUUUUGUGGAUAUCUCUUUCAUAAUGGAAUAAUUUUAAGCUUUAACAAGAUAUAAGUGGAUGGAACUAUAAAAUUGGCAAUUGAUCCCUUACCCAUUCUUUAGCAUUCAUGUUUUCAAGUUUUUCUUCCAAACCAAUAUCCAAAUCCUAUUGACAUAUCUAAUUAAUGCCUCUUAUUGCCACAUUCCAAAAGUACUAGUCCUAUCAAAGUUUGCAUUAUUAACCAUAGUUUUAACUAACGAAGUUUUUACCUUUUCUUUUAACUAGUGCAAUAACAAAUAACCUUGAAACCAACCUUGGAUAGAACUACUGCUCUUAUACCAUUUUGUUGUGCUUUAACCUAAUCCCACAAGACUUCCAAAAGUACCAAAUAAAAUACAAACUAAACUAGUCUAUAAUAUAAAGAGAAAUAUCAAGAGAAAUAAAAAUAAAGGAGGGUACACAAUAUUUAUGAGGUUUAGUAAGGAUGUCUUACCUAUAUCAUCAGACAAUGAUAAUCAAUCCACUAAUCUUCAAAUCAAAAUUACAAAAUCAAGUUGGGAAAGAUUGUCUCACAAAAUGGCUGCAAUUACAAAGAUUGACUGAAGCUACUCUAAUAACUUUGCUAAAGUCAUUCUCACACUACUAUGAUGAAAAGACGUAAGACUCAUUUAUAGAACCUAAAUAAGUCCCCGAGCCUUGACAAAACUAAUUCAUAAUUCCUAUGGACAAGGACUCCUAACAUAUAACAAAUUAUGAAAUCAUAAUCCUUAUAGGACAAGGAUCCCUAAAAUAUAUUAAACUCUUAAUUGAGCUAAAAGCCAAUACCUAAUAUAGAAGCCACACCAUAUUUUCCAUAACUCUACUAUGUAGAUGGUUGUUAAGAAAAAUUAUCACUUCCAAAAGUUAAAUAACCAUUUAUUUUUCCUUCCCUUUCCAUUCAUCCAGACAAUAACAAUAAAAAAUGUAGUGUAACUUUUGUUACUUUGCUACUUGUUCUCUCAAGUUACUUGCCUACUUGCGAAUGACCUCCACAAUCAAAUUAAGUAAAUGGAGAAAUAAUGUGGAGUUCCAAGAUAUAGGUAGAAAAGAGUGGAAAACCCCUAGUUCUACAAAAUAGUUUGCAAUUUUGUCUCUAGAUCUCUCAUUUUCGUGGUAAUGGCCAUUGAAGAUGUCAUCACUGAGAAGAUCACAAAGUGAAGAAGGCAUGACUGAGAGUUGGUAGAGUAGAGAGUUAAGGUAGAAAAUAGCAAAGAUAGGAUUUUGACGUUUUUAGAAUUUGUAGAUAAAAAAUAAAUACAAUCCAAAAAUCACUUUCAGAACAUGAUUUUACCUAACCAUGCCAAACAUAUAUUUUUUUUAUGUGGUUUGUAUUUGAUGUUCUCGAAAACAUUGAAUACAUUUUGGAUUGACUAUUAAACACAACCUUAGUAAUUAAAUCAGCAUAUUGAUAAAUUAUCAAGAGGCUCUUAUCAAUUUGGUCAACUCUUAGAAAAGUGUUGUUGAAAACACUAAAUACAAUCUAUAUAUUUAAAAAAAAAAUUGAAACAUGAAUUUACUUGACCAUACCAAACACAUUAUUUUUUAUUUGGAUUGUGUUCAAUAUUUUCAAAAACACUAAAUACAUGCAAUUUGAUUAACUAAUGAACAUGAACUUAGUAAUUAAAUUAGAAAUUUCAAAUGAAUUAAUGUCUUUUAUUUUGCAAGCAAAUCAUGAUUUUUUGUUUUCUACUAAAAUUUUGAAUACAUCACUAAAAGUAACAUCACCACUUUCUGGUUAGAAAGUUUUAAGAAGAUAUUUUUUAUCAACACAUAUUGUUGUUUGCUUUGAUGUCAAGAUACCAAAUCCUUUUUUCCUAAAAUUUUUCCUUUUUAUGCAAAUAAUAAAGUGUGGUUUUUUUCUUGAUUCAUUUUUUAACAUAGUUUUCCAUUCUACAUUGUUAAUAUACCAACACUUUUCAUUUUUUCUUGAAUUUUGGAUGUUCCUUCAUUAUUUGAUGAACUAUUUCCUUAGCCACAACCAUGAUGACCAUGACCAUGACAAUGAUUAUUUGGCUUCCUUCAUACCAAAUUUUUUCCCUCUUGUUGAUAUAUUAAACUUUGUUAACAAUUUUCUUUUAUUUAUAUAUUGAGUCUAAUACAUCAUACUUCCAAGGGUCAUAUUGAUGUCACUCAACUUCAAGCUACUUUUGAGUUAACUAUAUUACUAGGUAUAUGUGCAACAUUAGGUUGAAUUAGGGCACAAGGAAUGGCUACCACAUGUAUGCUAGGUGAAAUAUUAGAGUGUUUUUUUUCUCUUUUCUUUUUUUGUCAAGGUUAAGGAUUUGAGUAACUAAAGCCUCUAUAAAGUCUUUGAGGUAUCCACUAAGAAGCACAAGGAGUGUCGCAUGGGGGCUUGGAAGAAGAAUGUAAGUUACUUGUAUCUUGUUUUUAUAUUUAGUAGAUUGUUUGUGGUUGAUAAACUAUUCAUGUAACGACCUGCUCCCAACCAUGUAGAUAUUGUCCACUUUGGACCCAAAGGGGCCUUCAUGGCUUUAAAACGCCUCUACAAAAUUAAGAGAAGUCCAUACUUAUAUAGCGCCAAGAACUUCCCCCUCUAUCUGAUGUGGGAUGUUAAAAACACCCCUUUCCCCAUGUAGACACAAUGUCCUCGUUGUGUCCCACGGGAUUGCGGGGACAAACAAACCCCUGAACUAAGGUUGAAGAUUGACUUUGAUACCACUUGUAACAACCCAUUCUUAACCGGGUAGAUAUUGUCCGCUUUGGACCCAAAGGGGCCUUCAUGGCUUUAAAACGCAUCUACAAAGUUAAAAGAAGUCCAUACUUAUAUAGCGCUAAGAACUUGCCCCCUAUCCAAUGUGGGAUGUCACAAACACCUCCAUCCCCCACCCCAUUAUAUAAAUAUAUUAUUAUUAUUACUUUCAAAAGACCCUGCAACACCAUUACUCCAAGCCACCAACUACACCCAUUAUUAUUAUUAUAAUAAUAACAUUUUUUUUCUCUUGUUUCUUCCUUCUUGGACAUCCACACACAUCUUUUUUUUUUUUUUAUGACAUCCCACAUUGGAUAGGGCCAAAGUUCUUGGUGUUAUAUAAUUAUGGACUCCUCGUAACCCUGUAGAUGUGUUUUAAAGCCAUGAGGGCCUCUUUGGAUCCAAAAUGAACAAUAUCUACAUGGUUGGGAGUGGGUCAUUACAAAUGGUAUCAAAGCCAAUCCCCAACCUCGGUGUGGGGUUUGUUUGGCCCCGUAAGGGUAUUUGUUUGUUUGACCCCACAAUCCUGUGGGACACAACGAGGACAUUGUGUUUGCAUGGGGGUUGUUUGUGACAUCCCACAUCAAAUAGGGGGGAACGUUCUUGGCGCUAUAUAAGUAUGGACUCUUCAUAACCUUAUAGACGUGUUUUGAAACUGUGGGGGCCCCUUUGGGUCCAAAGUGGACAAUAUCUACAUGGUUGAGAGCGGGUCAUUACAAAUGGUAUCAAAAUCGAUCCUUGAUCUCGGUGUGGGGUUUGUUUGGCCCCAUAAGGGUGUUUGUCUGUUUGACCCCAUAAUCCCGUGGGACACAAUGAGGUCGUUGUGUGUGCAUAGGGGGAGGGGUGUUUAUGACAUCCCACAUCGGAUAAGGGGGAAAGUUCUUGGCUCUAUAUAAGUAUGGACUUCUCGUAACCUUGUAGAUGCAUUUUAAAGCUGUGAGGGCCCCUUUGGGUCCAAAGUGGACAAUAUCUACAUGGUUGGGAGUGGCUCGUUACAAUUCAUGGAUUUUUACACCCAAAAGGUUUUAAGCAGUUUUUUCAUGUUACAUUUUGUGUCAUACGUUUGAUUGAUUAUUCCUAUUCAAAGAAUUGAUGAAAACUUAAUUAUAAUUGAUAUAGCUAGGUGUUUAGGAAUGUUUCUAUUUAAAGUGCUUUUAAUUGAUUGUUUUUUUAGAAACAUUUUUUAAAGAAUCACCUCUCAAGAGCUUCUCAAAAAAGCAUUACAAGUGAUUUUUAACUUUUUAAAGAAUGUUUUCUAUGUUUUUCCAAGUGUAUAGUUUUUCUCUAAAUUUUUUAUUUUUAUUUUUUAAUACCAGAAGCAUUUUCUAAAAGUACUACUAAAUGGACUCUUAAAUUUUGAGGAUAUUUCACUUAGACAACCUAUUCAUCCCCCUCACUAUGUAGUUUUGUGUCUCAAGAUAAAAGUUCUCUCCUUUAUUUUAACAUAAUCUUUGUUUGAAGAAUUGUAUUUUUACUUGACUUUUGUUUUUAAUAUGUCUUCCAAGGCUUUUAAUGAUCCCAUAAAUUGGUCAAUGGCUAUAGAAUCCAAAUAUUUAGGCUUUUCAAUAACAAGAAAAUAAAAGAUGAAAACUUUUUUUUUUUUAGUUACACAAAUAUCAUCAAACUUUCACCAUUUAUUUUUACUUAAUUUACAUAUGUCAAUAUUUUUGAAAAAUAAUAAAAGAUUCUCUUAUAUUUAAACUUUAAAAUUCACUUUUAAAAGUAUGAAAUUGAACUUUAAAAAAAAAAAAAAACUUAUCAAAACUUUUAUAUUUAUUUGUAAUAUUUUUCAUGUUUCCUUUGACCUGGUUGCACUUAAAAUCAUUUCAAAGUUGUCUACAUCUAUUUCUUAAUAAAUGAGGUUAAAAGCCUUCUUGUCUUUCUUUCUUAUAUCUUCGAAAAGUUUAUUUAAUUUUGGGAUAGAUUGGUUUUAUCCAAUAGCUCCUUGUAGUUUUUCUCUACAAUCUCUUAUAUAUAUCUUGCAACCAAAUAAAACCUUUGUCUUGAUAUUCAAAUCGUCAAAAUUGUUAAAACUGUCUUUAUUGAGUUAAGCAACUUAAUUGAAUUACACGUCUUUUGAAAAAUAAAAUAAAAUAAGAAUCUUAUUAUAUGCAUAAAUUUCAUGAAAGUCUUGCAACAUAUAGGGGGUAGGCCUUGAAGUUAUAGUGAUAAUUUAUUCUACUAAAAAUUUUGAUCUCUACAUUGAUAUCAUUUUUUUAGGAGUAAUAGGGAUAAAUACACAAAUAAUAGUACUAUUAAAAGAGAUAAGUAGAGGAGAAAAUUAAAAGAAAUUUUUUGUGUUUUUAAUACUUUAAUUGAAGUAUUAUAUACACAACUCCAAUUACAAUAUGUUUUAAUUCACUUUUAAAAACUAAAUCAAAUGUAAUUUUUGAAAACUUCUUGAAACUCAAAUUUAGAUUUCAAUGUGUGAUUGAAUGAUAGGGAUGGUAAAAAAUAGGUAAAUAAAACAUAUGUAAUAUUAUUGUAUAUUAUUAAUUGCUUCCAUACCAUUAGCAUAUCAAUGGCAUCUUGCUAAGAAGAAGAACCACCGACAACAGUCCAUUAUAAUAGUUUCAGAAUGAAUGACAUUUAUUUGUUUGUAUUAUAUUGUUUUGCUAUUUAGGCCAUAUUCACAUGAACUGACUUUUUGUUUGGAGUAGUGUUUUAGUAGAGUAUUCAUAGUACACCUAGAUAUAGCCUAUGGGUUGCAUUAAUUAAUGGUUUUGGACCAACUUAACAAAAUUCUAUGCUAUCAUAAAUGCCAAAUUUUGGCACCCCUUGCCAAAUUUUCGCAUACCCUGCCAAAUUGAUGAUUUUGCCUUGCGAAAUGCUUUGUUUUCCUCCAUCUUGCUAAUGAUAGUUUUGGCAACCCCUUGCCAAGUUUGACAAGGGGUUUUGAAGUGCUCCAAAGCUCGGAUUCUUCAUGUGCUCCAAACUCUCCCUCAAUCUUGGCCUAUUUCAGUGAUCAAAAAGCUACUAAAAACACUAAAACUUACCAAAAAUUGGUUAGUAACAUUUGCUAGGUCCUUAACAUGCCAAUUGGGAUAAAAGGUCUAACUACUACUCAAAAGUGCUUAAUACAAUUAAGUUUACGCUUAUAAAAAUGCACUUUUUGAGUAGUAAUCAAUAAAGUAGUUGAUUGCCCAUGAUUGCGCAAUGCCAUCAUAAAGGAACCGAAUGCCCAACACACGUACAUGUGAGGUACCAUAUUUUUUAAGAAAGACAAGUCGGUUUGCAAUUGAUGUUAAUAUCUUUCCAAGGCAGAAACAUCAUUUUGUAGGCAUAAUUGAAUUAGUUAAACUUAAACCCCAAUUUGCAUUCUUUCAAGUAAAAUUAUUUUUAACCUAUAAUGCUCAACACUUUUAUGAGAAUCAUAAAAGUAUCAGAAUCAUAGAGAAUUAUUGAAAGUGAUUUUGUAGUGUUGUUGAUAAUAUGUCACAUGACUAUAAAAAUGCUUUUAAUAUUAGUAAAUUAUCAAAAAGGACAUCAAAUUUAAUUUCAAGGAAAUAUUAUAAUAAACUAAUACUUUUUCAUGAUAAAAGAAUUUAUAAACAUUUAUAGUAAAAGAAUAUAUAAACAUCUAUUUUACUAACAAAAACUAAAAAAUAAUAGUUCUUGCGAUUACAAGAAAAUUUUAGAAAAUAUUUGCAACAUGAUUUGGAUUAAUAGACAAACAUCAAUCCUAAUAUAAUAAUUUUUAAAAUAAAAAAAUCAUUUGAUUAUUUAUUCACUUAAAAAUAAUAAUUUUUUAUUACUACAAAAUUUUGAAAAAUACUUACAAAAAAUCUAGAUUAAUAAUGAAAAAUUGAAUAAAAACAUAUUAGUUUAGUUUCUAAAAAAAAAAUAGUAAUUAAAAGCAAAUGAGAAGACAAAUUUUCUCAUAGUAAAAAAAAUGAGAAAAUUAUAUAUAUAUUUUUUCAUAUUAGUGUUAUAAUAAAACAUCAACAAGAUAUAAAAUGACCAGCAAUUCGAUCACAUUCUUCUUACAUCUCUCUUACAUGAUAGAACCGUCUUUCUCAACUCAUGAAUCCACUCUACUCUCUUUUUUACUAAAGCAAAUGUAACCCUUGAUCAUCAUCAUAAGGUUUAAAUUUCAUAUCUAUCCUAGCAUUAAUCAUUAUUAAGUUGUAAAAACCAUCAAAGUAAUAACAAUGUUGACUUAUUUUUCAAGAGAAAAACUAUGCAUUUCUCAUAUUGUUCCACAUCUAUUCUUCAAAAAGGCAAAUGUUCAAUUGUUCUCCUCAAAGAUAUCUAUGGUUAAAUAUUUCCUUCUUACCUCUUGGUAAACUACUCCAUCGAAAUCUAGAAGAUGGUAACACUCGCCCUUCAAGGGCCUAAUUAUAUUAUCCAUUCAUUUAAGGAUAACCAACAUUAAGGUAGAUAAUAUUUACCUACAAAAAAAAAAUUAUAUAAGAUUAUGAAAAUCUAAUCACAAAAGUAACUUUCAUAUUUUUAGUCACUAAUCUCUAGAAGGAUGAGGAAAACCUAAUUCUAGCAUUAUUUUUAAUGCCUAUGAAAAGAUGCAUGCAUCAUGAGCAAAACCUUCCCAUCUAGCCAAUGCAAAUGUGAAAUACAUAUUGAAAUAAUAUAUGACCAUAAUAUUUUAGGUAGUUAUGCUUUUUGUACCAAUAUAUGAUAUUUGCCUAUCUCUAAAAACCAUAAUGGGCAUAUGAGUUCCAUUAAUUACCCCUAUACAAUUCUUAAAAUAUGGUCAAUAACAUCAACAUUUCUUAUUUUAUCAAGGGUCUCCCUAAACUAUGAAUCACUUGGUUUUAAAAUAUCCAUAGCUAUAAGACAAACAACAUCUAAUAUAAUCUCAAACCAUCUAGAAAUAAAUUCAUUGGAGUGCUAAAAUCUUUCUUAGGUCGUCAUGUUGUCAGGUCUAUGAACUAUUGUAGUGAGAAACAUUGCUAAAGCCUCUAUUAAGGGCAUAUCUAAACCUUCUCUUAGACCAUGCCUUUUAAUAAGUAUUUCACGACCAAAAGUAUUUCCUUGGGGUUCUCCUACAAAAGUAUCCAAUUUAUUAUAUUUCACGACCAAAAUAUAAAUUAACUAAAUAAACUUAGUAAAAAAAUAAAAAUGUAUCUUCAAUUUAUUAUCCCACCAUUCAUUUUUAGCAUUAGUGGUUUGCCUCAUAAGAUCCCACCCAAGGCCAAUCUUUUUCUGAAUCAAGGCAUUCCAAAGUUGUCAAUAUUUUUUAAGAGAACUUAAUAUAUUCUUAGGUUGCUUAUAUUGGUAGGUUCUUCUAGGUAGAUUGUUGAAUACCUUUGUCACUUUUUUCCAUCCAAUUUACUAAAGUGACUAUUUGGUCUAUUUUUAGCCAAAAUCUUAGCAACACAAACUGUGAGAUAUGCAUUAACAACAAUAUCAUUCAAUAUACUUUGCUUUAUUGAUCAUUUUCUUUACCACUUGUUUGUUGUAGUGGUUGAACUAUACUGUUAGACAUCUAAUAACAAAGUAAAGAACAAAGAAGUAUUAAAAGAAAAUGUUGUCAAUGUACUUUUAUAUUUUAUAGUUUAGACAUCUAAUGAGAACCAUAAAAAAGUGAACCUUAAAGAAAUUGGUCAACUAGAGGAAUAUGAAUCUUGGAAUACUGAAUAGGAAAGACUCACAUUCAUGGAAUAAAUUAAUAUAUAAUAUUGUAAUUUUAUUAAUUCUUUUCAUUAGGUUGCUAAAAGUUGAAAAAGAAUUCCUCAUGAAACGGAUUAAAUAAUUUCCUCAUGAAAGAAUCCAAUCAUGGCCUCAUUAUGAAGUACUGAAUUAACUCAAUGAACUUGAAUAUCAUCUAAUAAAUUCUUUCAUGGGUUUGUUUUUAUAACUUUAAUGUUACCAAUAUAGAAAGAAAUGAAACAUGUUUUAAAUAAUGUAAGAAACUAUGGUAGAAAAGUGGAAAUAAUUAAGGAUAAGAGGCUUUAUAUGAACUUUAAUAUUGUUAGUAACAGAGAGGCAAAUGAGAUAUCUCAAUAUUAAAUUAUGCAUAAUUAGUAUAAUUUUUUAAAAAUAAAUGGAAGAGAAUUUAGGAGGAAAAUAAGUAAUUAGAGUAUGAGAUAACAUGAAUGCUUAAAAUUGUCAAUCAUUAAAUUUAAGAUAAUUGUUAAUAUUUCACUACAUUUUCCAACUCCAUGAAUUAAAGCAAUGGGAGGAAAUGAGUUGGAUUUCUUAAUAGUAUUAAGUGUUGGAUUGACACAAAAUUAGGGUGCUAGUGGACACUUGAAAUGAGGACCAAGUAACAAUUGCAGAUAGCAUUUUACUCAUCCAACAUAGUUAAAAUUUUCAAAACCCAAUUCUUAUUUAGUACUUUUAUUGAAUAUAUGGGUAUAGUUUAACUUCAAAUCUAAUAUGAGUGUACUUUGAAUUUCCUAAAGCUUACAUGUUUCUUCACAUAUUAACAAAGAGAAAAGAUUAACAUUUUUUACAAUUACAAUUUAUUAGGACUCAAGGUUUAUUUCCUAAACUUUUAAAGUGGGGAAAAAAAAGUGUAAGGGAGAAAAAAGGAAAAGGAAAAGAAAGGAAAAACAAAAAGAAGAAAAAACUAUUAAAAGGCAUUAGAAGCCUAAGAUGGGCAUAUCCAUGAUUGAGGUGUAAAUGGGGGUGACAAUUCAUGUUGGUGGAUAGUGUUUGUGUUGUGUCAAAGCCUAGGUGUUCUACUACAUAGCUUAACCCAUCCCCAACACUACUAAUAAUCAGAUUAAGUUAGGUCUUCUAUAUGUCAAUAUGAUUAAUAUCUCAAGAAAAAGAUGUUUUUGUCUCAAUUGACCAAUCUAUUUAGAAACAAAUUUAAAAUGAGUCAAAUAUGGGUCAAACGUCUUUCAAAUAUAAUUAAGUUAAUAGUGGGAUUAUUAAAUAGGUUAAUUCGAGUCAAAUUCGUGUUAUGCAGGUUGACCAAAAAAGUGCUUAUUUAUUAAAUGAGUUAUAUAAGUCGACACAAAAUUUACCUAAACUCAUUUAUACUUGACCCAAACCCAUGAAAAGCGUGUUAGGUUUGUGUAAUGUCGGGAAUCGUAUCAAACUUUGUCAUCCCUAGGUUCAAACAACUCCAAGACCCUAUUUUUAAGGAGAAUAUAUGGACUUGAGAUUGCUACAUUAUUUAGACUAAUCCACACCUACUUAUUAAGGGAAAAAAAAUAAAAGAGGAGAAAUGUAGAGUAUAGGAUGAUGGGACAAGGCACAAAAUGACAAGACGUAGGAUGGUAGGACAUAGGAUGAUAAAAAUCCACUUCAAUUAAUAUUUCCAUAAAUCAAGAGUAAUCAAAUAUUAAAAUAUUUUAUUCUCCUAAUUUAGGAUAUAAUAUCUAUUCUAAAUAAAUCAAGAGCAAUCAAAUAUUAAUAAUAUUUGAUUCUCUUAAUUUAAGAAAUAAUAUUUAUAUUCCUUAAUUUUAGGAUAUUUAUUAUUUAUUUCUUCUAUAAUUCACAAUGCAUUCUUGUAUAAAUUUAUGAAAAGAAAUAAUAAAAAUUCAUUGCUUCUAUUUUCAAAUUAUAAAUUCUUCUUGGUAUUAGAGUUAGAGGAGGAGGCUCAAACUUGGGUUUUCUCCAAAGGUGGUUGAAUACCCUAAAAGACUUGACCUAUCCACACAAACAAUGUCUUACUCUUCAUUCAUUCAUUCAAAAAUAAAAUAAAAUAAAAUCCUUAGUGCUCUAGCUUUCCAUCAACAUUUUUUCUAAUUUGAUUUCAAUCAAGCUAAACACAACAAAUUUUCUACUAUGGGGAAAUCAAACUAUCCUCUUAGCUUGUGGCUUCGGUGUUUGAACCUUUCAUCAAUGUUUUACCCUUUCAUUGGUGUUAUUUUUAGUUUGAUUUUAAUCAAGUUAAACACCAUAAAUUUUCUAGUAUGGCAAAAUCAAAUCAUUCUCUUAGUUCAUGGUGUGUUCUCUAACAUCUCUUAGGUGGAGAAAGACUUGCUAAAGAAUUAAAUAUGAUGAGGAAAGCAAAAGUUUUAUCCUACAAUACUAGUAAUCAAUUAAUAAUAACAUAUUUGUCACUUCAUGAGUUCUCAAAACCAUGAUAAAAGACAUUUUCAUUAUGAUCCUUGGGACUAACAAGAUAUAUAAGGUAUAAACUUCUCUUAAGGAGUAAUUGCUUCCUAUUAUAGUUGAAAAAAAAAAUGAUCUCUUCAAGAAUAUUUAAGAGAUUUCAAAAAUAUAUAUGAUAAUCUCAUGACAAUCAAAAGCUAAUUUCAGACUAAGACAAAGUUUGUUGAUUCACUCAUGGUUUAGGAUAAUGGAAUGAUUUUUUUUAACCUACUAUGCUUUUCUAACCAAUUCAUAGCAACUCUUUAGGGACAUAAGCAAUCACUUACCACCAAAGGGAUGGAAAGAAAAUUUUUAUAGAGUAUGCACAAUUUUUUAUUUGGACAACAUAGUUAUGGUCAUAAUGGUUGAAAAUGCAUAAAUUUUAAUUUGAGGGGAAGAAGCUUUACACUUUCUAUGUGUUACAAUUCUUUUAAAAAAAUAUACUUUUAUGAUUUUAUCAAGUCCUUGUCAAAGGAUAUCUUCAUCAUGUUUUGAGAUAAGCUGGGUGUGCAUAUUCUUUCCCACUCCAAUUUAAGCUUGCAUAUUAAGAGAAAGAAUAAAAUAAGAUAAAAAGCACAUAGGAUAGCAACACGUAGGAUGAUAAAAAUCCGCUUCAAUUAAUAUUUCCACAAAUCAAGAGUAAUGAAAUAUUAAAAUAUUUGAUUCUCCUAAUUUAGGAUAUAAUAUUUAUUUUAAAUAAAAAACAAACAAUCAAAUAUUAAUAAUAUUUUAUUCUCUUAAUUUAGGAAAUAAUAUUUAUUUUCCUUAAUUUUAGGAUACUUGUUAUUUCUUUCUUUGUAUAAUUCACAAUGCAUUCUUGUAUAAAUUUUCUAAAAGAAACAAUAAAAUUCAUCAUUUUCAUUGCCAAAUUAUCAAAUCCUUUACUAAUGACCUUACGAUUAAAAUCUUGUUUGUUUGGUAAGUGUUGAACAAAAUGCCUUAGUAGCUACAAACGUGAUGGAAGAUGUGUGAAAGUUGUUGUGAACUGAGGAAGCUUAAGAAUCUAUUAAGAAGGUUGCUGAGGUGUGAAGAGAUGCUGAAAUUGAGGCUGUAACCAUAAAACAACUUAGUCAAUGAAGCUAAUAGAGUUUCAUAGAGCUGUUAUGCUGUUAUUGUUAUUUUAUAGGAAGUAGCUCUUAGUUCCAGCUAUUUUUUCUACUUUUCUAUUGUUUUCUAUUGCAAACUUGUGUAUAAAUGUUGCAUUGAUCAUUCAAUGAGAGUAGACAUUUUUGUUGUCUCAAAUGCAACUUUUGGUUGUUGCUUCCAACACUCUAGAUUCUAAAACCUAUGGAUUAGUAUCAGAGCCUUCUAUUUUGAAGGACCUGUGAGGAUUGAGUGAAGCCAAAAUACCUUCACACAUAUUGAACUCCAAAGCCAACAUAAACACACAACCUUUAACAGCUUGUAACUAUCAUUCUACAACAAAUAGAUGGAGCCACAAGCUUUUUGUCAGUACCAGUUUUCAAUGGUGAUAAUUAUCAGGCGUGGGCUAUUAGAAUGACAGUCCACCUUGAAGCUUUGGAUCUUUGGGAGGCAGUAGAAGAAGAUUAUGAAGUACCACCACUUGUAGACAAUCCAAGUAUCAAUCAAAUGAAGAUUCACAAGGAAAGAAAAGCAAGGAAAGCCAAAGCCAAGGUUUGCCUCUUCUCUGCAGUUUCACCUUCCAUUCUCACCAGAAUCAUGCAAAUGGAGUCUACUACAGCAAUCUGGAAGUGAUUUCGCAGCAUUUUUGUACAGUAAGGUGUUUCUCCUUCUGACGAUGCACGAUUUAUGCCGCGAGAAGGAAGCUAGAAACCUCAAGGUAGAAGCCAACUUCGCAGCCCUGUGAAGAUAGCUUGGUGUUGCGAAAUAAUUUCGCAGCCCUCUUGAGUGUCUGCGAAAUCUCGCAGACACCAUUUUUCUCCUGCGAAAUGGUUCCUAAAGCUUCCCGAUAUUUGCUACCGACAUUGGGAGAUAUUUUCCAUUAGAUUUUUGUUGUCUAAAUCCCAAAAUACUCCUUGUAAACCACCAAUUACAUGAUUCCUUAGUUUUUAAGUUAGUAAAAAGACUAAAUAUCCAUGUAAUAAUUAGUUUUAUAUUAUGUUCAUAUAUAUACCUCUCGAGAGCCUGUUCUCAGAGAGGAGUUCCUUCUGUAAAAGUUGGGGUAAGCAAGUAAAGUCUCUUUUCUUUCUACUGCCUUACCUUCUCACUUUGUAUUUUUUACUUAUUACUAAGUUAUGAACUCUCUGAGGAGUUUUCCCUAGAGAAUGAGUAACUAAACCUCUAAUUCCUUGGAGCUAAGGUUGCCGGGGGAGGUUCCAAGUGCAAGAAUGCAAAGCUUUGUGGUUUUAGCUAGUAAUGAAGAGGAAGUGAAAUCCUUCAAUGAUUUCUAUGUUUUUAGUUAACUUAAAACACCUUGGAGUCACCUGGGCCAACACUUGGUAAGGCAAGUGAUUUCCAACUAUGGAAAUGCACUAGUUUACCCCUUGCGAGCCUUUGGGAGGUGACUUCAAGGUAGGAUUUUCUAGAAUAGCCAACACUUGGUAAGCUUUUGGACUCCUAGGAGACAUCCAUUAGUUAUCUCUUGCGAGCUUUUGACGGGUAAUCCAAGGUUAAAGAUCACCUUGAAUGGUUAAGGCUUAGUGAGAGGCUUAAACCAUUGCAAGUUGCAUCAGUGAGAGAAUUAAAGUGAAAUCUAAUUGAAGGAGUCUCUGUACAUCACCAGUUAGAGAAUUGACUAUAUGUUGAAUCUCUAAUGCGAGGAAAUGAACCAUCUGACCAAAGCCGUGUCUUUUGCAUGAGGAACCACCCCAGUGAACCUAAAUCUCCAAGGAAUGCUUUUCUUCCUAAAUUAUUCCAAACUUCUGUUAUGUUAGUUAGUUUAAGUCUAAACCUUUACCAAUCAAAGUUUGUGUUUUACUUCUUAAGCUAACCUUGAAAUGAAAGAAGGCCAAUUCACUUGGAAUUGGUAUCAUUGAUUGCUUGUUAAUCAUUCCCAGUGAACGAUCCUAGAGCCACUAUACUAUAGUAGCUUUGUCUUUGCUACCCUAGUAUAUGGUGUAAUAGGUUAUAAAUUUUGUUGAUUACUCCCUCAAUCAAGGAGCACCAGCUGGACGCAAAUCAGCUGAGACACCAAUUGGGCAUGAAUCAAAUGGCGCCGUUGCCGGGGAAUGAGUGUCAAGUUUAUAUUGAUACCAUUUUUGAGCACUUGUGAUUUUCAUCACAAGUUGGUAAAGUUUCUUUCACUUUACUAAUUUUCAUUCUUUCUUUGUUUAUUUAUAAUCUAAGUUUAUCUUUUAAAAUUUAGCCUAGUUUAGUUUUAUUGUUGUAGCCCUGUUUCUUUUGUUUUCUUUUGUUUUCAUUUUUAGUUGCAGAUAAAUACUAGUUGUGUAUGCCAAAGUGGAUACAAGACAGUGGAGGAAGGCUUGUUAAGUGUGAUACACCUCAGAGGGGAGAAUUUGAAGUAAUCUUGAAUAUCAUGGAAUCUACACCUGAAGAUCAGCAUAGUCACCAAGGUCGUCAAGACAAUCUCAAUGAAUUCAGAUCAAUGAGGGACCGUAUGCAUCCACCUCGUAUGAGUGCACCAUCAUGUAUAGUGCCCCCUACAGAGCAGCUAGUGAUCAGACCGUAUCUUGUUCCACUUCUACCAACUUUCCAUGGGAUGGAAAGUGAGAAUCCGUAUGCACACAUCAAGGAAUUUGAAGAUGUUUGUAAUACAUUCCAAGAGGGAGGAGCUUCAAUUGAUUUGAUGAGGCUUAAGUUAUUUCCUUUUACUUUAAAGGAUAAGGCCAAAAUUUGGCUUAAUUCUUUAAGGCUAAGGAGUAUCCGCUCUUGGACUGAUUUACAAGCUGAAUUCCUCAAGAAAUUUUUUCCCACUCAUAGAACAAAUGGCUUGAAAAGGCAAAUUUCAAACUUCCCAGCUAAAGAGAAUGAGAAAUUCUAUGAGUGUUGGGAAAGAUACAUGGAAGCUAUAAAUGCUUGUCCUCACCAUGGCUUUGAUACUUGGCUAUUGGUGAGCUAUUUUUAUGAUGGUAUGUCAUCCUCAAUGAAGCAACUCCUCGAGACAAUGUGUGGAGGAGAUUUCAUGAGCAAAAAUCCAGAGGAAGCUAUGGAUUUCUUGAGCUAUUGAUUCGCGUGUAACUCCAAAUGGGUCAUUUAAUCAAAAACAUUUAUAAAACCUAUGACCUCAUACUAAUGUAGCAAAGCUACUAUAGUAUAGUGGCUCUAGGGUCGAACUCUGGGAUGGGUUUUCAUUCUACCAGUGAUAUACUCAAAAUUAGAAAUUGUAUUUAAUGAUUUCCUUAAUAAAAAACUUAAAGUUUAAAAGAAAAUAAAAUUUGUUUUGAAAGUGUUUGAAACUAAACUAACAUAAACUAAUUAAAAAUGGAAGAAAGAAAGUCUCCCGGAGCUAAGGGUUGCUAGGAUCAAGUUCAGAAUAGAAAGUGGAAAAUUCCGGAUUUUUCUCCUCGCAUUGGGGAUUUAACCUAUAGUUAUUUCCCGAACCGGUAUAGGUUUGAAAAUGAAGAUUUAAUCCAUAAAAGGUCAAUAGAAAUGGUAGUCAAGGUCCAUUAAUGGCUUAAGACACUAUGGGUCUUCACCUUGAAUCACUUUCCAAUGACUCGUACAUGAUAACUAAUGGACUAAUAUGGAUCUAGCAAUAAGCAUCCAUAAAGACCUGAAGCUUACCAUGUAUUGGUCAUUCAAAGUGAUUCUAAGGGAUUUAAAGCAAAACUUUGGAUUUAGAAGCCAUUUAUGAAUUCCAACUACCUGAAUUUAAUGCAUGGAAGCUUUCCACCUUUUCAUCUGGAAUUUUCACCUAGCUUCCUUUACUCCAAGAAACCGAAAGUUUAGCCUCUCAUCCUCCGGGCAAACAUCCUUAGAGGUUGUUUGGCUUCCAAGAAAAAGAAAAUAGUAAAGAACAAAGAGAACGAGAGAGCUCUGUAAAAUUCACAGUGUAAAAACGUAAUACGUAUUCUAUAUAUUCCAAGAGGUGAUUUCCACCCCUUAUAAAGUCUUUACAAAAGCCAAAGCUUAUGAUUGGUUAGUUACAAGGAUAAUAAAGGAAAUUACAUCACAAAAUACAAAGGAAAAUAUCUAAAGUGGAGUCGGCAAAGGGCAGAGCAAAAUUCGCAACACGCAUGGGUUAUGCGAACCAUAUGCGAAUGUUAUGCGAAUUUCGCAUAACCUCUUGUGGAAUGCGAAAUUUUCGCAUAACCUGGAGCAGUUGGCUUCCGAAGGCCAUAUCUUCCUCAUUUCAGAUCCAAAUCGUACACGGUUUGAAGCGUUGGAUUCUUGACUUCCAGAGCUUUGAAAUGGUAUAUAGCAUAUAUAAAAUGGACUUCGGGAAGUGCUCCAAAAGUGUGAAAGAAGACUGCAGCUGCUACAUCUUGAUUUUUUUCACUUUGCUUCUCUUUGCUUCUCUCCUUUGCUUGACUUGUCUUAAUGAUCCAAAAAGCUGUCAAAACAUUAAAACUAGCCACAAAUAUGAUUAGAAGACAUUGCUAGGUCCUUAACAUGCCAAUUGGACUAAAGAUGGAGAACUACUACACAAAAGUGCUUAAAACAUAAUGCAUUAAAGGUGUAAAAUAGCACUUUUUGGGUAGUAAUCAGCUAUGUAGCUGAUGUUUCAAGGGGAUGGGAUGAACCAACUAAAGGAGAAGUGGGAAAGAUGAAGUCUCAGUUGAAUGCUUACAAUGCAAAGGCUGGGAUGUAUACCUUAAAAGAAGAUGAUGACAUGAAAGCAAAGUUGGCAGCUAUGACAAGAAGAUUGGAGGAGCUGGAGCUGAAAAGAAUACAUGAAGUGCAAGCUGUUGCUGAAGCACCAGUGCAAGUGAAGCUGUGUCCCAAUUGUCAGUCUUAUGAACACUUGGUGGAGGAAUGCCCUGCAAUUCCAACUGAAAGGGAAAUGUUUAGAGAUCAAGCAAAUGUUGUUGGACAAUUUAGGCCCAAUAACAAUGCGCCAUAUGGAAAUACCUACAACUCAAGUUGGAGGAAUCAUCCAAAUUUCUCAUGGAAGGCCAGAGCAACUCAAUACCAACAGCCGGAUCCACCAUCUCAACAAUCUUCAAGUAUUGAACAAGCAAUGGCUAAUCUCAGUAAGGUAAUGGGAGAUUUUAUUGAAAAGCAAGAAGCCACUAAUGCUCGAGUCGAUCAAAGAAUUGAUAGAGUGGAGAGUAUGUUGAAUAAAAGGAUGGAUGGAAUGCAAAAUGAUAUGAACCAAAAGUUUGAUAACAUCCAAUAUUCAAUUUCAAGGCUUACAAAUUUGAAUACACUGCAAGAAAAGGGAAGAUUUCCUUCUCAACCUCACCAAAAUCCUAAAGGUGUCCAUGAAGUGGAAAGCCAAGAGGGAGAAUCAUCACAGGUGAAAGAUGUGAAAGCCUUGAUCACUCUAAGGAGUGGUAAAAAAAUUGAGCAGCCAACACCCAAGCCACAUGUUGAGAAAGAAAAAGAGAUAAAGAAAAGGAAGGAAAUGGAAGAUAAAGAGAGUGAUAUCAGUGAAGAAAAGAAGGACUCUGAUGCAACAAUGAAUGCAAUUCCAGAGAAGGAGCUUCUGAAGGAAGAAAUGCUGAAGAAAUCAACUUCUCCACCUUUUCCUCAAGCAUUACAUGGGAAAAAGGGGAUUAGAAAUGCAGCUGAAAUCCUUGAAGUCUUGAAGCAAGUGAAAGUUAAUAUUCCACUGCUGUAUAUGAUUAAACAAGUUCCAACGUAUGCAAAAUUCCUUAAGGACUUAUGUACUAUCAAAAGAGGGUUGACUGUAAACAAGAAAGCCUUCUUGACUGAGCAAGUAAGUGCAAUCUUACAAUGUAAGUCUCCUUUGAAGUACAAAGACCCUAGAAGUCCUACCAUUUCAGUCAUGAUUGGAGGAAAGGUAGUGGAGAAAGCCUUGUUAGAUUUGGGAGCAAGUGCGAAUUUGCUUCCAUAUUCUGUCUACAAGCAAUUGGGACUUGGAGAGUUGAAGCCAACAACAAUCACUCUAUCUCUGGCAGAUAGAUCAGUGAAAAUUCCAAGAGGGGUAAUUGAGGAUGUAUUGGUUCAAGUGGAUAAUUUCUACUAUCCAGUAGAUUUUAUUGUUCUUAAUACAGAUCCUACUGUAAAGGAAGCUAAUUUAGUUCCUAUCAUCCUUGGAAGGCCAUUUCUUGCAACUUCAAAUGCAAUCAUCAACUGCAGGAAUGGGCUUAUGCAGCUCACUUUUGGUAACAUGACACUGGAUCUCAAUAUUUUCUACAUGUCUAAAAAGCAAAUCACUGCGGAGGAAGAAGAAGGUCCAGAAGAGCUAUGUAUAAUUGAUACUUUGGUAGAGGAGCACUGCAAUCAACAUAUGCAAGAAAAGUUGAAUGAAAGUCUUGAGGAUAUUGAGGAAGGUUUUUCUGAAUCUCCUAUUGGGCUUACUACUCUACAAAGUUGGAGAAAGAUAGAAGGAAUUCUACCUUUGUUCAAUAAGGAAGAGGAGGCAGCUGCUGAAAAAGAAAUUCCAAAACUCAAUCUGAAGCCUUUACCUGUGGAGCUGAAAUAUACAUAUCUUGAAGAAAAUAAUCAAUGUCCUGUUGUGAUAUCUUCAUCUCUGACCAGUCAUCAAGAGAAUUGUUUAAUGGAAGUUCUCAAGAGGUGUAAGAAGGCAAUAUGAUGGCAAAUAUCUGAUUUGAAAGGCAUUAGUCCUUUAGUUUGUACUCAUCAUAUAUAUAUGGAGGAGGAAGCAAAGCUAAUUCGUCAAUUUCAAAGAAGGUUGAAUCCUCAUCUACAAGAGGUGGUGCGAGCUGAGGUGCUGAAGCUACUUCAAGCAGGAAUCAUUUACCCUAUAUCUGAUAGCCCUUGGGUGAGUCCUACUCAAGUAGUACCAAAGAAGUCAGGGAUCACAGUGGUUCAGAAUGAAAAAGGGGAAGAAAUUACUACACGCCUCACUUCAGGUUGGAGGGUGUGUAUUGAUUAUAGAAAGCUGAAUGCUGUAACCAGGAAAGAUCAUUUUCCAUUGCCAUUUAUUGAUCAAGUGCUGGAGAGAGUCUCUGGACAUCCAUUCUAUUGUUUCUUGGAUGGGUAUUCAGGGUAUUUUCAUAUUGAAAUUGAUUUGGCAGAUCAAGAAAAGACCACUUUUACAUGUCCAUUUGAAACAUAUGCUUAUAGAAGAAUGCCUUUUGGUUUAUGCAAUGCACUUGCUACAUUUCAAAGAUGUAUGUUGAGUAUUUUCAGUGAUAUGGUGGAGCGAAUUAUGGAGGUUUUCAUGGAUGACAUCACCGUAUAUGGAGGUACAUUUGAGGAAUGCUUGGUUAAUUUGGAAACAGUUCUUCAUAGAUGCAUUGAAAAAGACCUGGUGCUGAACUGGGAGAAAUGCCAUUUUAUGGUACGACAAGGAAUUGUCCUUGGCCAUAUCAUCUCUGAAAAAGGCAUUGAAGUUGAUAAAGCAAAGGUGGAGCUUAUUGUCAAAUUACCAUCUCCAACAACUAUAAAAGGAGUAAGGCAGUUCCUUGGCCAUGCAGGGUUCUAUAGGAGGUUUAUAAAAGGUUUUUCAAGUCUUUCAAAACCUCUUUGUGAGCUGUUAGCUAAGGAUGCUAAGUUUAUAUGGGAUGAAAGGUGUCAGAAUAGCUUUGAUCAACUGAAGAAAUUUUUAACAACAACUCCAAUAGUGAGAGCCCCUAACUGGCAAUUACCUUUUGAAUUGAUGUGUGAUGCCAAUGACUUUGCUAUAGGAGCUGUGCUUGGCCAAAGAGAAGAUGGGAAGCCCUAUGUGAUUUACUAUGCAAGUAAAACACUAAAUGAAGCUCAGAGGAACUACACAACUACAGAAAAAGAAUUGUUAGCUAUGGUAUUUGCUUUGGACAAAUUUCGUGCUUAUUUAGUGGGGUCUUUCAUCAUAGUCUUCACUGACCAUUCAGCCUUAAAGUAUUUAUUGACAAAGCAAGAUGCAAAAGCAAGGUUGAUUAGAUGGAUUCUUUUGUUACAAGAAUUCGAUCUUCAAAUCAAAGAUAAGAAAGGAGUGGAGAAUAUGGUAGCUGACCACUUGUCAAGGUUAGUUAUAGCACAUAACUCCCAUCCCUUGCCUAUCAAUGAUGAUUUUCCUGAAGAAUCACUCAUGUUCCUAGUGAAAACUCCUUGGUAUGCUCAUAUUGCUAAUUAUUUAGUAACUGGUGAAAUUCCAAGUGAGUGGAAUGCACAGGACAGGAAGCACUUCUUUGCCAAAAUUCAUUCUUAUUAUUGGGAAGAGCCCUUUCUCUUUAAGUAUUGUGCAGAUCAGAUUAUUAGAAAGUGUGUCCCUGAAGAUGAGCAGCAAGGGAUUCUAUCUCAUUGUCAUGAGAAUGCAUGUGGAGGCCACUUUGCCUCUCAGAAAACAGCCAUGAAGGUAUUGCAAUCAGGGUUUACUUGGCCAUCUCUUUUCAAAGAUGCCCACAUCAUGUGUAGGAAUUGUGAUAGAUGCCAAAGGCUUGGAAAGCUAACAAAAAGAAAUCAAAUGCCUAUGAACCCCAUUAUGAUAGUUGAGUUAUUUGAUGUAUGGGGCAUUGACUUCAUGGGACCUUUCCCAAUGUCUUUUGGUAAUUCUUACAUUUUGGUGGGGGUGGAUUAUGUUUCUAAAUGGGUUGAGGCAAUCCCCUGUAAACAAAAUGAUCACAGGGUGGUUCUCAAGUUUCUUAAAGAGAACAUUUUCUCAAGAUUUGGGGUGCCCAAGGCCAUAAUCAGUGAUGGAGGUGCUCAUUUUUGCAACAAACCUUUUGAAGCUCUGUUAUCCAAGUAUGGAGUGAAGCAUAAGGUGGCUACACCUUAUCAUCCUCAGACUUCCGGGCAAGUUGAGCUAGCUAACAGGGAAAUAAAGAACAUCUUGAUGAAAGUGGUGAAUUCCAAUAGAAAGGAUUGGUCUAUUAGGCUUCAUGAUUCAUUGUGGGUAUAUAGAACAGCUUAUAAGACUAUUCUUGGGAUGUCUCCCUAUCGUCUUGUCUAUAGUAAAGCAUGCCAUCUCCCUGUGGAAGUUGAAUACAAAGCUUGGUGGGCAAUAAAGAAGCUGAACAUGGACUUGAUCAAGGUAGGAGAAAAGAGAUUUCUAGACCUUAAUGAGAUGGAGGAAUUAAGAAAUAAUGCUUAUAUCAAUUCCAAAGUUGCAAAACAGAGGAUGAAGAAGUGGCAUGAUCAACUCAUCUCCAACAAGGAAUUUCAGGAAGGGCAAAGAGUUUUGAUGUAUGACACAAGACUCCAUAUCUUUCCUGGGAAACUCAAGUCAAGGUGGAUAGGCCCGUUCAUUAUUCACCGAGUAUAUUCCAAUGGAGUGGUGGAAUUAUUGAAUUCCAAUGGCAAGGAUAGCUUUAAAGUCAAUGGAUAUCGUCUCAGGCCAUUCUUGGAGCCAUUCAAACCAGAAAAGGAGGAGAUCAACCUCCUUGAACCUCAAAAAGCUUAAGUGAAAAAGGGUUUGCUGGACGUGGUUUUACCACAGUCCAAAAUUUUUGUAAAUUUUGUAAAUUUUCAAGUUGUUUCCAUACUUUUGAUCUUAGUUUUUGAUCUUAAAUCAUGUUUUUAGGUGUGUUUUAAUUGUUUUGAAUGAUCCCAGGUGGAAGAAAUUUCAAGGAAAUUGAAAGAAAAAAAAAAUCAGGUCGAAAUCGGAGCCAAAAUAGAGUAAAAACAGGGGAAAAACAAAGCUCUGCGAAAUGAGCAUUUUGUUGCCAAACCAUUCCGCAACACUGUAGAAGUCUCUGCAAGGGUAUUUCGCAGUUGCGAAAGCAAAUUUGGCACACGAGUGCCACUUCGCAGUACAGUAGCAUCCAUUUGGCAGCUGCGAAACGCAUUGCGAAGGGAAAAAGCGUGAUUUCGCACCAAAAGUCCCAUUCCGCAGGGUAUUUCGCAAUUGCGAAAGUGGUUUUGGCACACGAGUGCCACUUCGCAGCAUAGGAACUCUCAUUUCGUAGCUGCGAAACUCACUGCGAAGUUGCUGCAAAAAUGGCAUUUUGCUGUGAAAUUGACGUUUUGUUGCGAAACUUAAACUGACCCUUAGGCUUCCAUUUUUCCUAUUUAUACCGAUCAUUUGAGCUGCGAAAAGGGUUUCAAAAAUCAGAGCGCCAUUUUCGCAGACCUUUCAUCUUCUUCCUUGAGCCACGCCGUCCGAGCCUCCGGUCAUCUCCUCCGAUUAGCAACGCCGGCCAAAGUUUGGUAUCCCGAAAUGGCACGAACACGAGAGGCUAAGUCUUCAUCUUCUUCGAACCACAAGAAGAGUCUGCGAAAGGAGCCAAGUCUAGGUUCUGCUCCAGAGCCUUCGCCGUCAAGGCCAAAUCCUCCUCCGGUGAAGCCCGCGCCACCAAAGCCACCUGCAAGACGAUACCUUACCAGGUCAGGAGGUCGGCCAUUGCAGAAGAAACCCAGGGUGGAGAGCUCAGAACCCAUCGAUUUGACUGAGCAAUCUCCAGAGCCUUCACCAAUUCCAUCACCGGUUCAAACUCCAGUGCCGUCUCCAGUUCCCUCGCCUAGUCCCCUGCCAGUUCCAUCGCCGGUACCAUCUCCGGCACCGCAAGAAAAAUCUCAGGAGCCUCAAGCGCCACUUCCCGAGCCCCAAAUUCAAGCUGAAACAGCUCUGGAAGAAGUAAUCUGGAGGCCAAUGCUACCUCAGCCCCCAAUUGAGGGAAACUUGGAUUGUAGAACACGGGCAUUUCACUCCGAGCUUUGCUUUGACUUACCGGCAUUCAGAGUGAGGCUGGAGCUUGCCCAAUCAUUCCAGCUGCUGAGAAGGUACCAUAUGGAGCAACUGCUAGCUCCAAGAGACUUUUUCUAUCCCCGGAUAGCCACGGAUUUCUACCAAUCCAUGACAACCAAAGAGGUAAGGAAUCCGACUUUGAUUCAUUUCACAAUCGAUGGGAGACAUGGCAUAUUGGGAGCACGACAUAUUGCUGAAGCCCUGCAAAUUCCCUUUGAGCCAACCCAAUUCGAUAAUUUUACAGCUUGGGCAAAUCCUACUGAGCUAAAGAUGGUGCGCACCCUUUCCAGAGGAGCUGCAAAUCGAUCACAUCUGUUGAGGGGGGAGCUUCCUCCAGUUAUGUUUUUGAUUGAUGCCUUUUUGCGUCAUAAUAUAUACCCAUUGCAGCAUUGGACCCAAAGAAGGGGAGUCCUCCUGGAAGCUCUUUAUAAGAUGUCAGAAGGAUUUUUCUUUGGGCCUCAUCAUCUGAUCAUGGCAGCCCUUCUCUAUUUUGAAGAGAAGGCUCAUAAAAGGAAGCUUCAGAGAGCAUAUUGCAUUCCCCUCCUCUUCCCAAGGCUGCUAUGCCCAAUUUUGGAGCAUCUGGGAUACCCCUCUGAGCCUCAGCUGGAGAGAAAGCGAAUUUGCCGUGAGCCAUUCACUCUUGAUAAAUGGAAUAAUAUGACGGCCUACAAAGUUGAUCAGCCUGGGCAGCCUCAACCAGCUGCAAGGAGAGCCUCCCCAAGACAUAUACCUGAAGGUAUAACAGUUGCUACUCCUGCCAUUCCUAGAGCUCCACCAGUUGCACCUGCUUCAUUUCAGCCAUCCACAUCAGCUGAGCCGAGGAUGGCCAUUCCUAUAUCUGAAUAUCGAGAGUUGUGCCGUGCAUUGGAGACACUUACAGCUUCUUAGAGCAAUCUUGCUCAAGAGAUGGCAGCCAUCAGAGCAUGCCAAGAGCAGAUGUUAGCCACUCAAGCUCAACAAGCUGCCAUCUUAAGGCAGCUCCAAGACCAUUUCGAUCUGCCACAAGCUGUAGAGUCCUCCACUUCUACUCCAACAGAGCCACACCCUCAUCCUUCAGAGUCUCAUCCUCCUGAGCCCCAAGCCCCAGCUGAUGCACCUACUGAAGAGGUAGAUCCUUCUGCCUAAUCCCAGCACCACCCCACUCAUCAGACUAUAUUAGAUAUCUAAUAUUUUCAUGUAUUUCAUUUUUUUUAGUUGAAAAGAAAUCCCAGUAUUUUGGUACUAUAUUUGGGAUUCCUUGUGUUACUUGUCUUUUGCAUUGUAAUCAAAUGAAUUUAAAGUAAUACAAGUUGAAUAUUUCUUGUUAAAAGUUAGCAUUAAGUUAUUCUUAUUUCCUUUUCUCACAUAUUCUAUUCUUUUUGAAACAUGUGGUUUUCCCCAAUCAAUAUUCGAAUUUGAUUUCAGCAAGGAGGUACCACUUCCUCCCUUUUAUUACAUUCACUCAAAUCACAUUGAGGACAAUGCUCAGUUCGGUUGGGGGGUAUGAGGAAGGAAGUAUUCUAAAUCUUUUUGGUAUUGCAAUUAUAUUGGUUAAUUAGUUGUAGUUUUUACUUUUUACUCUUGUUACUCUAUUCUCCAUGAAUUUUGAGGAAAAAUUUUCAAAUUAAACCAAGAGAAAUUGAACUGUUGUUUUUCACUUGACUUAGAGUAUGGAUUAUGCUUACUAAAGUGGUUCAAUUGUUGAAGCUUCUAUUGAAAUUGAAGUUAGUUCUUCCACUUUAAGCUAUCCACACACUGUGCACAUUAGAUUCCGAUUAUAAGAUGAAAAGCUAUUUCCCUCUUGACUUAGGAUAAUUUUGGGACUUGGUAUAUUUGACCUCAUUUGAUAAAAUUGAAACACCCUGCAAAAGGCCAAUGAGCCUUUGAAAUAAAGAAAGUUGUUUGCUUGCCUUGAAACCCGAGCAAGGUCUGAGGGGUAUAUGGUGAAAAUCUUUAAAGCCUGGUGCCCUAAGCCUUAAUUGGUUGGGAGUCACCGACCUCAAUGCUCGUUAUAAGGGUGAAUAGGUAGAGCUAGCAUAUGGUAGAUGCUUGGGUAUUAGAAUCUCAUUCUUAAAAGUCCGGGGAAAAAUCCGAGGAGUUAGUGGUUGAAAGAUCCUUAAAGCUUGGUGCCCUAAACCUUAAUUGGUUGGGAGUCAUCGAUGGACCCCCAUUACAUGGACAAGUCAGAAAGAGUACCCCAUAAAGCUACCUUAAAAAAAAAAAUGAUGAAAAUGUGUUCUUUUCUUAUUGAUUUUGGUCAGAUUGCUAAAGUAUUGAAAAGAGAUAGGUUGGGGGGAGAGACUAGUUUAGCAUAUUAUUCUCGGAACCUAAGGAACCAAUACACAUAGAUUUUUGUGGAAGAUUAAAGUUUGAUUCUUAGAAAGUGGAAAUGAUUUUAAAACUUCAGUUUGCAUAAUGCACUCCCUUGAUUGACAGUGUUUAGCAUAGGUGUUAUGACUCUUGUUGAGAUUUGGGUUUGUAUUUCUUUACUACUUCAUGUGAGAAUUAGAUCAUCAUGCCACUUGAGAAUUAUUUUCCUUUAGCAUGAUGUUGUAAAUUUUAGAUUAGUUUGCUUUUUAUUUUCAUUUUUCUCUCCUAUAUUGCUAAGGGACUAGCAAUAUGUCGGUUGGGGGGAGUGAUUACUACUCAAAAAGUGCUAUUUGAUAGCCUAUAAUUAAUCCUUUUAAACACUUUUGAGUAGUAGUUUAGGCCUUUUAACUCAAUUGGCAUGUUAAGGAUCCUUUAAAGCAAUUUUAAUCACUUUGUGCAAGUUUUGGUGUUUUUGUUAGUAUUUUGAUCACCAAAGCAAGUCAAGACUGAGGAGAGCUAUGAGGAAUCUUGGGCAAAGCUUAGAAGUCAUUUUCCAAGAGUGAAUCCGGAUUGCAAGGAGAAAAAAGCAAAGAGAAUCUGCCAUAAAGCAUAUUCUUGAUGACAGUCGUAGCAGCCACUUUUGGAGCACUUUCUGAAGUCCAAAUGAUGUAUUCCAUAUACCAUUUCAAAGCUCAGGAAGUCAAAAAUCCAAUGCUUCAAACGGUGCUCAAUUCGGAGUUGAAAUGAAGAAGUUGCAGCCGUUACAAGCCAAUCACUCCGAGCUGAAGGAAGCAUUUUGCAAAGUGUUGCGAAAUCACCCUUUUGUUGCGAAGUGAUUUCGCAGCAUUUUUGUACAGUAAGGUGUUUCUCCUUCUGACGAUGCACGAUUUAUGCCGCGAGAAGGAAGCUAGGAACCUCAAGGUAGAAGACAACUUCGCAGCCCUGUGAAGAUAGCUUGGUGUUGCGAAAUAAUUUUGCAGCCCUCUUGAGUGUAUGCGAAAUCUCGUAGACACCAUUUUUCUCAUGCGAAAUGGUUCCUAAAACCUCCCGAUAUUUGCUACCGACAUUGGGAGAUAUUUUCCAUUAGAUUUUUGUUGUCUAAAUCCCAAAAUACUCCUUGUAAACCACCAAUUACAUGAUUCCUUAGUUUUUAAGUUAGUAAAAAGACUAAAUAUCUAUGUAAUAAUUAGUUUUAUAUUAUGUUCAUAUAUAUACCUCUCGAGAGCCUGUUCUCAGAGAGGAGUUCCUUCUUUAAAAGUUUGAGUAAGCAAGUAAAGUCUCUUUUCUUUCUACUGCCUUACCUUCUCACUUUGUAUUUUUUACUUAUUACUAAGUUAUGAACUCUCUGAGGAGUUUUCCCUAGAGAAUGAGUAACUAAACCUCUAAUUCCUUGGAGCUAAGGUUGCUGGGGGAGGUUCCAAGUGCAAGAAUGCAAAGCUUUGUGGUUUUAGCUAGUAAUGAAGAGCAAGUGAAAUCCUUCAAUGAUUUCUAUGUUUUUAGUUAACUUAAAACACCUUGGAGUCACCUGGGCCAACACUUGGUAAGGCAAGUGAUUUCCAACCAUGGAAAUGCACUAGUUUACCCCUUGCGAGCCUCUGGGAGGUGACUUUAAGGUAGGAUUUUCUAGAAUAGACAACACUUGGUAAGCUUUUGGACUCCUAGGAGACAUCCAUUAGUUAUCUCUUGCGAGCUUUUGACGGGUAAUCCAAGGUUAAAGAUCACCUUGAAUGGUUAAGGCUUAGUGAGAGGCUUAAACCAUUGCAAGUUGCAUCAGUGAGAGAAUUAAAGUGAAAUCUAAUUGAAGGAGUCUCUGUACAUCACCAGUUAGAGAAUUGACUAUAUGUUGAAUCUUUAAUGCGAGGAAAUGAACCAUCUGACCAAAGCCGUGUCUUUUGCAUGAGGAACCACCCCAGUGAACCUAAAUCUCCAAGGAAUGCUUUUCUUCCUAAAUUAUUCCAAACUUCUGUUAUGUUAGUUAGUUUAAGUCUAAACCUUUACCAAUCAAAGUUUGUGUUUUACUUCUUAAGCUAACCUUGAAAUGAAACAAGGCCAAUUCACUUGGAAUUGGUAUCAUUGAUUGCUUGUUAAUCAUUCCCAGUGAACGAUCCUAGAGCCACUAUACUAUAGUAGCUUUGUCUUUGCUACCCUAGUAUAUGGUGUUAUAGGUUAUAAAUUUUGUUGAUUACUCCCUCAAUCAAGGAGCACCAGCUGGACGCAAAUCAGCUGAGACACCAAUUGGGCAUGAAUCACACCCUAUGCCCAUUUAGGCAUCCUCGGUCCAUUUAGACACCUUAGGCCCAUUUAGGCACCCUAGGCUCAUUUAGACACCCUUGGCCCAUUUAGGCACCCUAGGCUCAUUUAGGCACCCUUGGCACAUUUAGGCACCCUAGGCCCACUUAGUAACCCUAAGCCCACUUAGACACCCUUGGCCCAUUUAGGCACCCUAGGUCCACUUAAGCACUCUAGGCCCAUUUAGGCACCCUACGCCCACUAAGACACCCUAAGCCCACUUAGACACCCUUGGCCCAAUUAGGCACCCUAGGUCCACUUAGGCACUCUAGGCCCAUUUAGGCACCCUAGGUCCACUUAGGCACGCUAGGCCCACUUAGGCACCCUAAAUCCACUUAGACACCUUACGCCCAUUUAAGCACCCAAAGCCCACUUAGGCACCCUUAGCCCAUUUAGGAACCCUAGGCUCAUUUAGGCACCCUAGGUCCACUUAGGCACCCUACGACCAUUUAGGCACCCUAGGUCCACUUAGGCACUCUAGACCCAUUUAAGCACCCUAGGUCCACUUAGGCACCCUAGGCCCAUUUAGGCACCCUAGGUCCAUUUAGGUACCCUUGGCCCAUUUAGGCACCCUAGGCCCACUUAGCCACCCUAGGCCCAUUUAGGCACCUAAGGACCAAUUUGGCACCCUAGGCUCAUUUAAGAACCCUAGGCCCAUUUAAGAACCCUAUGUCCACUUAGACACCUUCUGCCCAUGUAGGCACCCUUGGUCCACUUAGGCACUCUAGACCCAUUUAGGCACCCUAGGUCCGCUUAGGCACCCUAGGCCCAUUUAGGCACCCUAGGUCCAUUUAGGCAUCCUUGGCCCAUUUAGGUACCCUAGGCCCACUUAGGCACCCUAGGCCCAUUUAGGCAACCUUGGGCAAUUUAGGCACCCUAGGUCCAUUUAGGCACCUAAGGAUCAUUUAGGCACUCAGAGGCCCAUUUAGGCACCCUAGGUCCAUUUAGGCACCUUAGGGUCAUUUAGGCAUCCAUAGGCCCAUUUAGGCAUCCAUAGGCCCAUUUAGGCACCUUAGGCUCAUUUAGGCACCCUUGGCCCAUUUAGGCACCCUAGGCCCACUUAGACACCCUGAGCCCACUUAGACACCCUCUGCCCAUUUAGGAACCCUAGGUCCACUUAGGCACUCUAGACCCAUUUAGGCACCCUAGGUCCACUUAGGCACGCUAGGCCCACUUAGGCACCCUAAAUCCACUUAGACACCUUACGCCCAUUUAAGCACCCAAAGCCAACUUAGGCACCCUUAGCCCAUUUAGGAAACCUAGGCUCAUUUAGGCACCCUAGGCCCACUUAGGCACCCUAGACCCAUUUAGGCACCCUAGGUCCACUUAGGCACUCUAGACCCAUUUAGGCACCCUAGGUCCACUUAGGCACCCUAGGCCCAUUUAGGCACCCUAGGUCCAUUUAGGUACCCUUGGCCCAUUUAGGCACCCUAGGCCCACUUAGGCACCCUAGGCCCAUUUAGGCACCUAAGGUCCAAUUUGGCACCCUAGGCUCAUUUAAGAACCCUAGGCCCAUUUAAGAACCCUAUGUCCACUUAGACACCUUCUGCCCAUGUAGGCACCCUUGGUCCACUUAGGCACUCUAGACCCAUUUAGGCACCCUAGGUCCGCUUAGGCACCCUAGGCCCAUUUAGGCACCCUAGGUCCAUUUAGGCAUCCUUGGCCCAUUUAGGUACCCUAGGCCCACAUAGGCACCCUAGGCCCAUUUAGGCAACCUUGGGCCAUUUAGGCACCCUAGGUCCAUUUAGGCACCUAAGGUUCAUUUAGGCACUCAGAGGCCCAUUUAGGCACCCUAGGUCCACUUAGACACCAUAGACCCAUUUCGGCACCCUAGGCUCAUUUAGGCACCCUUGGCUCAUUUAGGCACCUUAGGCUCAUUUAGGCACCCUUGGCCCAUUUAGGCACCCUAGGCCCACUUAGACACCCUGAGCCCACUUCGACACCCUCUGCCCAUUUAGGAACCCUAGGUCCACUUAGGCACUCUAGACCCAUUUAGGCACCCUAGGUCCACUUAGGCACCCUAGGCCCAUUUAGGCACCCUAGGUCCAUUUAGGCACCCUUAGCCCAUUUAGGUACCCUAGGCCCAUUUAGGCACCCUAGGUCCAUUUAGGCACCUUAGGGUCAUUUAGGCAUCCAUAGGCCCAUUAAGGCAUCCAUAGGCCCAUUUAGGCACCCUAAGUCCACUUAGACACCUUAAGCCCAUUUAGGCACCCUAGGCUCAUUUAGGCACCGUUGGCCCAUUUAGGCACCCUAGGCCUACUUAGACACCGUAAUCCCACUUCGACACGCUGCGUUCAUCUAGGCACCCUAGGUCCACUUAGGCACCUUAGGCCCACAUAGUCACCCUUGGCCCAUUUAGGCACCUUAGGUCCACUUAGGCACCCUAGGCCCAUUUAGGCACCCUACGUCCACUUAGGCACCCUUAGCCCAUUUAGGCACCCUAAGUCCACUUAGGCACCUUAGGCCCAUGUAGGCACCCUAGGCCCAUUUAGGCACCCUAGGUAACCUUAAGCACCCUACGUCCACUUAGGCACCCCAGGUCUAUUUACGCACCCCUUGCCCAUUUAGGCACCCUAGGCCCACUUAGGCACCCUAGGCUCAUUCAGGCACCCUAGGUCCACUUAGGAACCCUAGGCCCAUUUAGGCAUCCUUGGUCCACUUAGGCACCCUAGGCCAAUUUAGGCACCCUAGGUCCAGUUAGGCACUCUUGACACAUUUAGGCACCCUAGGCCCAUUUAGGAACCCUAUGUCCACUUAGACACCUUAUGCCCAUUUCGGCACCCUAGGUCAACUAAGGUAAUCUAGACCCAUUUAGGCACCCUAGGUCUACUUAGGCACCCUAUGCUCAUUUCAGCACCCUAGGCCCAUUUAGGAACCCUAUGUCCACUUAGACACCAUAUGCCCAUUUAGGCAUCCUAGGUCCACUUAGGCACUCUAGACCCAUUUAGGCACCCUAGGUCCACUUAGGCACCCUACGCCCAUUUAGGCACCCUAGGUCCAUUUAGGCACCCUUGGCCCAUUUAGGUACGCUAGGCCCACUAAGGCACCCUAGGCCCAUUUAGGCACCCUAUGUCCAUUUAGGCACCCUAGGCUCAUUUAGGCACCCUAGGUCCCCUUAGGCAACCUAGGCCCAUUUAGGCAUCCUUGGUCCACUUAGGCACCCUAGGCCAAUUUAGGCACCCUAGGUCCAGUUAGGCACUCUUGACACAUUUAGGCACCGUAGGCCCAUUUAGGAACCCUAUGUCCACUUAGACACCUUAUGCCCAUUUAGGCACCCUAGGCUCAUUUAGGCACCGUUGGCCCAUUUCGGCACCCUAGGCCUACUUAGACACCGUAAGCCCACUUCGACACGCUGCGUUCAUCUAGGCACCCUAGGUCCACUUAGGCACCUUAGGCCCACUUAGGCACCCUUGGCCCAUUUAGGCACCUUAGGUCCACUUAGGCACCCUAGGCCCAUUUAGGCACCCUACGUCCACUUAGGCACCCUUAGCCCAUUUAGGAACCCUAGGUCCACUUAGGCACCUUAGGCCCAUGUAGGCACCCUAGGCCCAUUUAGGCACCCUAGGCAACCUUAAGCACCCUACGUCCACUUAGGCACCCCAGGUCUAUUUACGCACCCCUUGCCCAUUUAGGCACCCUAGGCCCACUUAGGCACCCUAGGCCCAUUUAGGCACCCUAUGUCCAUUUAGGCACCCUAGGCUCAUUCAGGCACCCUAGGUCCACUUAGGCACCCUAGGCCCAUUUAGGCAUCCUUGGUCCACUUAGGCACCCUAGGCCAAUUUAGGCACCCUAGGUCCAGUUAGGCACUCUUGACACAUUUAGGCACCCUAGGCCCAUUUAGGAACCCUAUGUCCACUUAGACACCUUAUGCCCAUUUCGGCACCCUAGGUCAACUAAGGUAAUCUAGACCCAUUUAGGCACCCUAGGUCUACUUAGGCACCCUAUGCUCAUUUCGGCACCCUAGGCCCAUUUAGGAACCCUAUGUCCACUUAGACACUAUAUGCCCAUUUAGGCAUCCUAGGUCCACUUAGGCACUCUAGACCCAUUUAGGCACCCUAGGUCCACUUAGGGACCCUACGCCCAUUUAGGCACCCUAGGUCCAUUUAGGCACCCUUGGCCCAUUUAGGUACGCUAGGCCCAUUUAGGCACCUUAGGUCCAUUUAGGCACAUCAGGCUCAUUUAGGCACCCAUAGGUCCAUUUAGGCACCCUAGGCUCAUUUAGGCACCCUAGGCUCAUUUAGGCACCCUUGGCCCAUUUAGGCACCCUAGGCUCAUUUAAGCACCCUUGGCCCAUUUAGGCACCGUAGGCCCACUUAGUAACCCUAAGCCCACUUAGACACCCUUGACCCAUUUAGGCACCCUAGGUCCACCUAAGCACUCUAGGCUCAUUUAGGCACCCUAGGUCCACUUAGACAGGCUAGGCCCAUUUAAGCCCCCUAAGCCCACUUAGGCACCCUUGGCCCAUUUGGGAACCCUAGGCUCAUUUAGGUACUCUAGGUCCACUUAGGCACCCUAAGCCCAUUUAGGCACCUUAGGUCCAAUUAGGCACUCUAGACCCAUUUAGGCACCCUAGGUCCACUUAGGCACCCUAGGCCCAUUUAGGCACCCUGGUCCAUUUAGGCACCCUUGGCGCCUUUAGGCACCCUUGGCGCCUUUAGGCACCCUAGAACCACUUAGACACCCUUGGACCAUUUAGGCACCCUAGGUCCAUUUAGGCACCGUUGGCUCAUUUACGCACCCUAGACCUAUUUAGGCACCCUAGGUCCACUUAGACACCUUAGGCUCAUUUAGGCACCCUAGGUCCACUUAGGCACUCUAGACCCAUUUAGGCACCCUAGGUCCACUAAGGCACCCUAGGUCCAUUUACGCACCCUUGGCUCAUUUAGGUACCUUAGGCCCAUUUAGGCACCCUAGGUCCCUUUAGGCAACUUAGGGUCAUUUAGGCAUCCAUAGGCCCAUUGAGGCACCCUAGGUCCACUUAGACACCUUAGGCCUAUUUAGGCACUCUAGGCCCACUUAGACACCCUAAGCCCACUUAGACACGCUGCUCCCAUUUAGGCACCUUAGGCCUACUUAGGCACCCUUGGCCCAUUUACGCACCCCUAGGUCCACUUAGGCACCCUAGGCCCAUUUAGGCACCCUCGGUCCCCUUAGACACCUUAGGCCCAUUUAGGCAUCCUAGGCUCUUUUAGGCACCCUUGGCCCAUUUAGGCACCCUAGGCCCAUUUACGACCCUAGGUCAACUUAGGCACCCUAGGUCCACUUAGGCACCCUAGGUCCACUUAGGCACCCUAGGCCGAUUUAGCCACCCUAGGUCCAGUUAGGCACUGUACACCCAUUUAGGCACCUUAGGCCCAUUUAGGCACCCUAAGUCCAAUUAGGCACCUUAGGCUCAUUUAGGCACCCUAGGCCCAUUUAGGAACCCUAUGUCCACUUAGACACCUUAUGCCCAUUUAGGCACCCUAGGUCCACUUAGGCACUCUAGACCCAUUUAGGAACCCUAGGUCCACUUAGGCACGCUAGGCCCAUUUAGGCACCCUAGGUCCAUUUAGGCACCCUUUGCCCAUUUAGGUACCCUAGGCCCACUUAGGUACCCUAGGACCAUGUAGGCACCCUAUGUCCAUUUAGGCACAUAUGGCUCAUUUAGGCACCCAUAGGCCCAUUUAGGCACCCUAGGUCCACUUAGACCCCUUAGGCCCAUUUAGGCACCCUAGACUAAUUUAGGCACCCUUGGCCCAUUUAUGCACCCUAGGCUCAUUUAGGCACCCUUGGCCCAUUUAGGUACCCUAGGCCCACUUAGUAACCCUAAGCCCACUUAGACACACUUGGCCCAUUUAGGCACCCUAGGUCCACUUAGGCACUCUAGGCCCAUUUAGGCACCCUAGGUCAUUUUACGCACCCUAGGCUCAUUUAAGUACCCGAGGCCCAUUUAGGCACCCUAGGUCCAUUUAGGCACCUUAGGGUCAUUUAGGCAUCCAUAGGCCCAUUUAGGCACCCUAGGUCCACUUAGACACCUUAGGCCUAUUUAGGCACCCUAGUCUCAUUUAGGAACUCUUGGCCCAUUUAGGCACCCUAGGCCCACUUAGACACCCUAAGCCCACUUAGACACCCUGCGCCCAUUUAGGCACCCUAGGUCCACUUAGGCACCUUAGUGUCACGGACUUAGUCGUUCACUAAGCUCGUGCGGCACUUAGGCAAGUCAAGACGCUUGAUCUUGCUAAGUCAGCCUUGAUCCUCAAUGCUUAGCUUGCUCGGCUAAGACACUCACGACUCGAAAUCUUAAGAAGCUUGGUAGGCAACUCCUUAAUGAAUGGAAGCUCUUAUUAACUCAAGAAAGCCUUUACAAGUGCUUAGAUGCUCACUUGCUUGGUUAGGAAGUGAUUUGGGUGGUGCCUUGGCCAAAUGAGGCCUUCACCUAUUUAUAGGCACCAAUGGAACUCUCUGGAACCUUGGAGGGUUCCUUAGAAAUGAAGAAUAUUCUAGAACAUCCUACCCUAUUCUAUGUACAACCCUAUGUACAAGAGAUUCUUAGAAGUCUCUAGAAAGCCCUGGACUCCUCCCAUGCCUUCCUCCAUAGUGUAGAGAUGUGCGGACAUCUCUAGGCAUUUCUAGAACCUUCCACACUCUUCCCACCAAUGGCUUAUUGUAAAUGGUUCCAGGAGUCUCCAGAAGCUUCCCUCUUUCUAUAUAAGCCCAUAGGGAGGGUCAUUUGAAACAUCCUGUGACACUCUCCCCCACUGAUGCCGUCGACGUCCUCGUCGUUGCCUCAUUCUGAAACCUCUCGAUGUGUUUCCAGAAUUUUCUCAAGGCAUCCGCAUGUUCCCAGCUUACCGGUCUCUUAGGUAGUCCUUUCCAUCGGACUAGAUACUCUAUCACAGGAGGGACCCCUUGUCUCCUAGUGACCCGUUCAGCCAGGAUAUUCUUCACCUCCUUCUCCUGUGAGGCUUCAGAUAGAUGCAGACCCAUGCGCUUUCGAUGCUUAGAGUGUUGCUUCUUCUUACCGAUUGAGUUCACCUUUCCCUUGGUGACCUCUUCCAUGUGUGUGCGGGCUACCUCAGCUCGCUCCUCUUUUUCCUCCUUUACUUGCACCCCUGCUAGUAAGGAGGUCUUAGGCGUACUAGGCUUCGGGUUAAAUUGGAGGGCACCUAGUAGCUGCAUUGAGCCCAUAUGUGCUUCGUCCUCCUGCUCCCUCUCCUCGAUCAUGGCACUGAACGCCUUCCUCUUUGGACAAUCCCGUGCCCAAUGUGGACCGUCACACAGGAAGCAUUUGAUUUUAGGUGUAAACUCCUUCCUUUCCGCCUUAUCCCUUCCUUCUCGGACGUUAGACGUCUUUCCUGAUCCCUUUUUAGGAGCAUUGUGGUCCCUUGGAACCUCGUCUCCCCUACCCUUGGCGUGGCUAUCCUCCAAAGACUUAACCUUGGAGGAGUCUCCUCUCUUAUAAUCCGUUAAAGACUCUGCUACUGCCAUAGCAGUGGCUAAGUCUUAAACGCCUCGGCGCCUUAAUUCUUGCUCGGCCCACCCUUGCAGGUUAUCCAUGAAGUUGAAUAACAACUCCUCCUCAAUUAUGUUAGGAAUCUCAAGCAUGAGCGAAGAGAAUUCCUUGACAUAUUCACGUAUCGAGCUUGUGUGCUUGAGACGCCUCAUGUUUUUCCUAGCCAGGUAAGCCACGUCCUCGGGGUAGAACUGCCUCUUGAUCUGCCUCCUGAAGUCCUCCCACGUCCCUAUGGUGCAAAUGCCUUUCUCCAUAUCGGCAAACCUUCGACGCCACCAUAGAGUAGCUGUGUCAGUAAGGUAGAGGGUCGUAGUUCUCACCUUAGCCACCUCAUUCGUUAAUGCGAUAGCUUCGAAGUAUCGCUCCAUAUGCCAUAAGAAGUUAUCCAACUUCUUGGCAUCCCGCUUGCCACUAAACCUAUGUGGCUUCGGCACCUCCACCCUAGAUGCCUCCUAUGUGGUCAUGACCCGUGCCGACACAGCAGCCUUGUAGAUGUCCAACUCCUGCCUAACCUCCUGGUCUCGGGACUCCAUUCGAGUGGCCAAGGCCUCUAUCCUUGACUCCAUGCUAGCAAGCAUGCUCAAGACCUUUCCUUGGAAGGACACAAACUCCUCGUGCGACACUGGUUGAACCUGUGAGACUAGCACCCUCUCACGAAGGUCUUGGAUCUGCUCCCCUAGAUCCUCUAAGCCCUUCUCCAUGCCUUGCUCGAUCAAGUCCAACCCCUCCCGAGUGUCCGCCAUGGCUAGCUCUACCUUGGCUAACCUUGCCUCCAUAUUGGCAACGGCAUCACGAGACUUAUCCUUCUUAUCCCUGCCCCGUGCAGUAGGCUCGGUCUCCCUUCCACGGGUUUGCUCACUAGUCUCCUCCACGUUAGAGCCCGACAUGCUUCCUUUGCUAUGCCCACCUUGUAACCGUGCUCUGAUACCACUUGUCACGGACUUAGUCGUUCACUAAGCUCGUGCGGCACUUAGGCAAGUCAAGACGCUUGAUCUUGCUAAGUCAGCCUUGAUCCCCAAUGCUUAGCUUGCUCGGCUAAGACACUCGCGACUCGAAAGCUUAAGAAGCUUGGUAGGCAACUCCUUAAAGAAUGGAAGCUCUUAUUAACUCAAGAAAGCCUUUACAAGUGCUUAGAUGCUCACUUGCUUGGUUAGGAAGUGAUUUGGGUGGUGCCUUGGCCAAAUGAGGCCUUCACCUAUUUAUAGGCACCAAUGGAACUCUCUGGAACCUUGGAGGGUUCCUUACAAAUCAAGAAUAUUCUAGAACAUCCUACCCUAUUCUAUGUACAACCCUAUGUACAAGAGAUUCUUAGAAGUCUCUAGAAAGCCCUGGACUCCUCCCAUGCCUUCCUCCAUAGUGUAGAGAUGUGCGGACAUCUCUAGGCACUUCUAGAACCUUCCACACUCUUCCCACCAAUGGCUUAGAGUAGAUGGUUCCAGGAGUCUCCAGAAGCUUCCCUCUUUCUAUAUAAGCCCAUAGAGAGGGUCAUUUGAAACAUCCUAUGACAUUAGGCCCAUUUAGGCACCCUUAGCCCAUUUACGCACCCUAGGUCCACUUAGGCAGCCUAGGCCCAUUUAGGCACCCUAGGUCCCCUUAGACACCUUAGGCCCAUUUAGGCACCCUAGCCUCAUUUAGACACCCUUGGCCCAUUGAGGCACCCUAGGCCCAUUGAGGCACCCUAGGCCCAUUUACGACACUAGGUCAACUUAGGCACCCUAGGUCCACUUAGGCACCCUAGGUCCACUUAGGCACCCUAGGCCCAUUUAGGCACCCUAGGACCAAUUAGGCACUGUAAACCCAUUUAGGCACCUUAGGCCCAUUUAGGCACCCUAAGUCCAAUUGGGCAGCUUAGGCUCAUUUAGGCACCCUAGGCCCAUUUAGGAACCCUAUGUCCACUUAGACACCUUAUGCCCAUUUAGGCACCCUAGGUCCACUUAUGCACUCUAGACCCAUUUAGGCACCCUAGGUCCACUUAGGCACCUUAGGCCCAUUUAGGCACCCUAGGUCCAUUUAGGCACCCUUUGCCCAUUUAGGUACCCUAGGCCCACUUAGGUACCCUAGGACCAUUUAGGCACCCUAGGUCCAUUUAGGCACAUAAGGCUCAUUUAGGCACCCAUAGGCCCAUUUACGCACCCUAGGUCCACUUAGACCCCUUAGGCCCAUUUAGGCACCCUAGGCUCAUUUAGGCACCCUUCGCCCAUUUAGGCACCCUAGGCCCACUUAGUAACCCUAAGCCCACUUAGAACCCUUGGCCCAUUUAGGCACCCUAGGUCCACUUAGGCACUCUAGGCCCAUUUAGGCACCCUAGGUCUCUUAGACACGCUAGGCCCAUUUAAGCACCCUAAGCCCACUUAGGCACCCUUGGCCCAUUUUGGAACCCUAGGCUCAUUUAGGCACCCUAGGUCCACUUAGGCACCCUUGGCCCAUUUAGGCCCCCUAAGCCUAAAUGGCACCCUAGGUCAACUUAGGCACCCUACGUCCACUUAGGCACCCCAGGUCCAUUUAGGCACCCUUGGCCCAUUUAGGCACCCUAGGCCCACUUAGGCACCCUAGGCCCAUUUUGGCACCCUAUGUCCAUUCAGGCACCAUAGGGUCGUUUAGGUACCCUAGGUCCACUUAGGCACCCUAGGCCCAUUUAGGCACCCUAGGUCCAUUUAGGCACAUAAGGCUCAUUUAGGCACCCAUAGGCCUAUUUCGGCACCCUACCUCCACUUAGACACCUUAGGCCCAUUUUGGCACCCUAGGCUCAUUUAGGAACCCUUGGCCCAUUUAGGCACCCUAGGCCCACUUAGUAACCCUAAGCCCACUUAGACACCCUUGGCCCAUUUAGGCACCCUAGGUCCACUUUAGCACUCUAGUCCAAUUUAGGCACCCUAGGUCCACUUAGACACGCUAGGCACAUUUAAGCAGCCAAAGCCCACUUAGGCACCCUUGGGCCAUUUUGGAACCCUAGGCUCAUUUAGGCACCCUAGGUACCCUUAGGCACCCUAAGCCCAUUUAGGCAUCCUUGGCCCAUUUAGGCACCUUAGGCCCACUUAGGCACCUAGGUCCACUUAGACACCUUAGGCCCAUUCAGGCACCCUAGGUCCACUUAGGCACUCUAGACCCAUUUAGGCACCCUAGGUCCACCUAGGCACCCUAAGCCCAUUUAGGCACCCUAGGUCCAUUUACGCACCCUUGGCCCAUUUAGGUACCCUAGGCCCAUUUAGGCACCCUAGGUCCAUUUACGCACCUUAGAGUCAUUUAGGCAUCCAUAGGCCCAUUUAGGCACCCUAGGUCCACUUAGACUCCUUAGGCCCAUUUAGUCACCCUAAGCUCAUUUAGGCACCCUUGGCCAAUUUAGGCACCUAGGCCCACUUAGACACCCUAAACCCACUUAGACACGCAGCGCCCAUUUAGGCACCCUACGUCCACUUAGGCACCUUAGGCCCACUUAGGCACCCUUGGCCCAUUUACGCACCUAGGUCCACUUAGGCACCCUAGGCCCAUUUAGGGGACCCUAAGUCGACUUAGACACCUUACGGCCAUUUAGGCACCCUAGGCUCAUUUAGGGACCCUUCGCCCAUUUAGGCACCCUAGGUCCAUUUACGACCCUAGGUCAACUUAGGCACCCUAGGUCCAUUUAGGUACCCUAGGUCCACUUAGACAGCCUAGGCCCAUUUAGGCACCCUAGGCUCAUUUAGGCACCCUUGGCCCAUUUAGGCACCCUACGCCCAUUUAGGCACCCUAGGUCAACUUAGGCAACCUAGGUCCACUUAUGCACCCCAGGUCCAUUUAGGCACCCUUGGCCCAUUGAGGCACCCUAGGCCCACUUAGGCACCCUAGGCCCAUUUACGCACCCUAGGUCCAUUUACGCACCCUAGUCCCAUUUAGGCACCAUAGGUCCACUUAGACACCCUAGGCCCAUUUAGGCACCCUAAGCCCACUUAGGCACCCUUGGUCCAUUUAGGCACCCUAGGCUCAUUUAGGUACCCUAGGUCCACUUAGGCACCCUAGGCCCAUUUAGGCACCCUUGGUCCACUUAGGCACCCUAGGCCCAUUUAGGUACCCUAGGUCUAGUAAGGAACUCUAGACCCAUUUAGGCACCUUAGGCUCAUUUAGGCACCCUAGGUCCAAUUAGGCACCUUAGGCUUAUUUAGGCACCCUAGGCCCAUUUAGAAACCCUAUGUCCACUUAGACACCUUAUGCCCAUUUAGGCACCCUAGGUCCACGUAGGCACUCUAGACCCAUUAGGCACCCUAGGUUCACUUGGGCACCCUAGGCCCAUUUAGGCACCCUAGGUCCACUUUGGCACCAUAGGCCCAUUUAGCCACCCUAGGUCCACUUACACACCUUAGGCCCAUUUAGGCACCCUAGGCUCAUUUAGGCACCCUUGGCCCAUUUAGGCACUCUAGGCCCACUUAGACACCCUAAGCCCACUUAGACACACUGUGCCCAUUUAGGCACUCUAGGUCCACUUAGGCACCCUAGGCCCAUUUAGGCACCGUAGGUCUAUUUAGGCACAUAAGGCUCAUUUAGGCACCCAUAGGCCCAUUUAGAAAAUUUCGCACAGCCUGAUGCAGUUGUCUUCCGAAGGCCAUAUCUUUCUCAUUUCAGCUCCAAAUCAUACAUGGUUUGAACCGUUGGAUUCUUGACUUUCUGAGCUUUGAAAUGGUAUAUAGAAUGUAAAAAAUGGACUUCGGGAAGUGCUCCAAAAGUGCAAUGAAAGACUGCAGCUGUGUCCCCUGUUUUCCUCUUCUCCAUUGUUUCUUCCUUGUAUACUUUGAACCACUAAGGCAAAGGAUUAUGAGGCUCCAUAGCUUGAUUUCUUCAUAAAUUUAAGCUUUCAAAAGCUUUGCUCUGAACUAUAAAUAGCUCUCCCUCAUUCUUAAAUUGCUUUGGUGAGCAUAAAGCUAUCAAAAAGCACCAAAACUUAACACAUUUGUUAGAAACGAUUGCAAAGGUCCCUAAUAUGUUAAUUGAGUUAAAAGAUAAUAAUUACUACUCAAGGGUGUUUAAAAGAGCUAAUUACAAGCUACAAAAUAGCAUGUUUUGAGUAGUAAUCACUCCCCCCAACCGACAUAUUGCUAGUCCCUUAGCAAUUAAGGAGAGAAAAACUAAGCAAACGUAAUAAUAUACAUAAAAGAAGUCAUGCAAUUCAUUCCAAAAAAUAAUUGAGUGGCAUGACUGAUAUCCAAACACAUCUCUCCUGGUGAACUAAAGAUAUGAAGAUUCAAAAUGCAAUAGGAGUUGUCAAAGCUUAAACUUAAACAAAAAGUACAAAGAGUGGAGAUUAUGCAAUUAAGUAUCAAAAGAAUCUCUACUCUCAAGGUUUCAAAUCAAACUCUUCCAUAAUAAGCUAAGUGUUAAUGAAAUUAGCUUCCGGAUAUAGUAUAUACAACUAUCCUCACCCUCCAAACUAAGCUUUUCUCGAAUAUUGGCAAAAUUAAUCAACUCUUAAUAGGUUAAGAACGCACCUUCUUAUUCACAAUUCUUUUUUUUUUUACUCACUAAACUUAACCAAUUCACCUAUGUAGCAAGCAGAGGAUCGAUGACUCCCAACCAAUUAAGGUUUAGGGCAUUGGGUUUUAAAGGCUUUCGCCACCCCUUCGGAUCAUACUUAGGUUUCAAGGAAAGAAUAGAGGCUUAUUCUCUUUUUCUUUUUCUAAGACUCAUUGGUCUUUUUCUAAGACUCAUUGGUCUUUAUGAGGUGUCCCAACACUAUUAAAAAGAGGUUAAGUAAUAAACCAAGUCAAAAUUUUCCUAAGCUUAGAAAGUGAGAAAGUUUUACAUCUUAUAUCCGGGAUCUAAUGUGCACAGUGUGUGUAAAGCUCGAAAUGGAAGAAGAAAGUUCAAAAUCAAAGAGGCUUCAAUAGAUUAUCAACUUUGAAAGCAUAAAACAAACUCUAAGACUUAAAUAAUUAAGUUAAAACUCGACUUAUCCUAUUUUAUUUUUGAAAAAUUAUCUUUAACAACCAGAGAGAAUGAUUCAAAAAACUUUUUAAAAAAUUUAAAAUUUAAGCAAAAAUUAACUAAAAUACCAAAAUAACUUAAUAUUGACAACAAAACUUCCUUUCUCAAUUCUCCCCCCCAACCAAGUUGAACAUUGUCCCCAAUGUUUCAAAAGCGAUUAAAAAUAAAGGGAGGAAGUGGUACCUCCUGAGUGAGAUAAAGUCUGAGUGUAAAGGAGGUAUGGAGUACCUUAAACCACAUGUUCCAAGGACAAAAGAGUAAUGAGAAAAGGGAAUAUAAUCAAAAAGGAUAUAUAUAUAUAUAUAUAUUACUUGAAAAAGAAAUAUACAAUGUAUGAUUUCAAGUACUAUUUCCAAUCCCAAUUUAUAACACAUGCAAAAGAUGGGAUUUACAAGUCUAAAAUAAAAAGUAAAACAUAAAAAAAUCAGAUAUGAGUGGGGUCAUGUGAUGGCUCUGCUCUGAUCUCCUCCUCUGGUAUAGGCUGCUCAGCUGGCAAGCUCUCCUCAUCUGGCACUAGAGGCUCGGAUGGUGCAGACCUAUCAUGCCCAAGAGGGAUCUGCAUACUCAGAUGCUGCUGAAUCUGAUGAAGGAUCGUGGUAUGCUGGGCCUGAGUAGCGAUGAUCUGAUCCUGGUGUGCACGAAUAGUGGCCAUCUGGUGGAUAAUAGAAUCCUGAGCAGUGCUCAGUGUCCGCAAUGAACGCUCUAAGCCUCUGAAUUCUGUAAGAGAAAUGGUGACAGUGGGCUCAGAUGAAGGAGGAGGUGCUGGGGUAGCUGGCACGACUGGUGGAGCACCCUGAGUGAUAGGGGAGGUAGAAUGUAUAGCCUCGGGCAUGUGCACUGAGGGCUGUGCUGCAGGGGCAGGAGGUGGUGUCUCUGUGAGAAUCUCAUCCUGCUGGGCCUGAGGUAUCUGCUCAUCUCGGGGUAGCUCUGGAGGUGCAUGUACAGCUGGGGCUCCCUGAGGUGCAAAGUAGGCUACCAAGUGAUGCCAUUUGUCGAGAGAGAAGUCCUCUCGGCAAUGGCGGCGCCUCUCAAGACGGGGCUCUUCAGGAUAGCCCAAGUGCUCUAAAAUCUGGCAGAGGAGCCUCGGAAAUAGUAAUGGGAUGCCAUCUGCCCUCUGAAGCUUCUUCUGAUGGACUUUCUCUUCAAAAUGAAGAAGAGAAGUCAUAAUCAAAUGAUGAGGGCCGAAGAAAUAGCCCUCAGAAAUCCUGAAUAACGCCUCAAGUAUAGCUCCUCUCCUCUGAACCUUAUGCUGAAGGGGGAAUAGGUUGGCACGCAGGAGCACAUCAAUGAGGAGCAUCCCAGAUGGAAGCUCUCUCCUGGUCAAUACCGAGGCUGUAGAAGUCCCCCUGGACAAAAUGCGGACCAUGUCACUCUGAGAGAAUGAGGACCACUCCCUGAAAUCUGCCUGAAACACGGGCUCAUAAGGUAUACGGAGGGCCUCAGCAAUGUGGCGAGCUCCAAUGGCACCCUGGCGUCCGUCUAUGGUAAAUUGGAUGAGAGUAGGAUUGCGGAGGCCUCGAGUAGUCAUAGAUUGAUAAAAAUCUAAAACUACUCUGGGAUAGUAGAAUUGCCUAGGAGUGAGAAGAUCCUCCAUGUGAUACCUCUACAGCAGUCGGAAUGAAUCUCUGAGCUCUGGCUGCUGUCUGAGGGCCUCUAUAUCAAAGUAGGUCUCAGAGUGGAAGGAUCGAUUUCUGCAAUCCAAGUUGCCCUCUAUCGGUGGUCCGGCUAUCAUGGGACGCCUGAUAAUGGUCUCGGGAGUAUUUUCUACAGGAAUCUGAGGUUCCUCUGUAGCUGGCUCUGGCUGAGGUGCGUGGGAUGGCUCUCCAGGACCCGAGAACCUGGUCCUCUUCGCUGGUGGCCGAGAAACAGGGCUCGUGGCCUGAUCGACUGGUGCCACAGGGUCCGCGGGUGGCCUCCGGGUGGGGUAUCGGCUCUGAGAAGGAGCUUCCCCCUCAGAUGGGGGAAUGGCCGGGGCCUGAACAGGUGGUGAAGGUGCGGCUCCCAUGGCGGCUCGCUGUGGUCGAGGUGUCGGUGAGGACGGGGAGGCGGAAUGGCCUCCUCUGGUCUUCGCCAUGGCCGAAAUGAAGGGAGGUGGGUGUUCGGGAUUCCAGAGGUUUUUCAGCUGGUGCUUAGGAGAGUCCUUUGAGCUUCUGGACUUCAGGGGUUUAUAUAGGAAUGAGGUUUAAGGGGUUUCUGAUCUUUUAAAAUUUUUCAAGGCAACCGAAAAGUCGUUUUUGGAUGUUAGGCACAAUUUCGGGGGUAAAAUUUUAAUUUAAAAGUCGGUUUUAAAUUUGUAGAAGUUAAAAUUUUACCGUGCGAAAUUUUCGCACCUUGGCCUGCAAAUUUCGCACCUUGGAAUUGGGUGUGCGAAAAUGGCACCCCUUUGGCCGAUGAUUUCGCACGUUAAAAGGAGGUGUGCGAAAUUUUCGCACCUUGAAUAGUGGUGUGCGAAAUUUUCGCACACUAUUUCGCACAGUGCGAAAAUCAGCUUGAGGUGUGCGAAAUUGGCACACGUGUGCCAGGAGAGGAUUUCGCACAGUGCGAAAAUUUUCGCACCUUCCACAGUGGUGUGCGAAAUUGGAUUUUAGGAAAUUCGCACCUUGAAAAGGGAUUUCGCACCUUGAAAUUGAUUUCGCACCUUGAGGUAGGGGUGUGCGAAAAUUGCUUCCUUUGGCCCAAGGAUUUCGCACCUUGGUAUUGAGGUGUGCGAAAUUUUCGCACCUUGAAAUCAGGUGUGCGAAAAUUUGGCACCUUGAAAUUGGGUGCUCUGUUUCCUUGGUUUUUCUCCCCUUGGCUGCUUUUGACGAGCUCUCCCCAUCUUUCAUGAUUUUUUUCUGAAAUUUAUUAUCAAAAUUAACUUGAAUUAAGACAAUAUAAACUAAGAUUAGGAGAAAAUUAAAAUAUAAAGAAAUAAAAAUACUAAUAUAACUAUAAAACUAUAACAAAAAAUUCAUGGACUUCUUUAGCCCAUGAUACCCUGCUUUCCCUCAGAUUUGUGGUAGUUCAAGGAGAUUGAUCUCCUCCUUGUCUGUACUGUAAGGCUCUAAGAAUGGCUUGAGACGAUGGCCAUUGACUUUGAAGGUUUGAUUGCCUGUGGGAUUGAAUAUUUCCACCACUCCGUUGGGAUGCACUUCAUGAAUUAUGAAAGGACCCGUCCAUCUGGAUUUCAAUUUUUUUCGGUAAAAGAUAAAGCUUAGAGUCAUAAAGUAAGACUCUUUGUCCCAAAACAGCCCCCAUAGCAAGAUCUUAAAAAAAAAAACUAAGUUAAAUCAAACCAAAAUAAAAUUAAAGCAAGAAAUCAAAAUUAAAACAAGUUUAAAAAUAAAACAAAAAGAUAUGGACUAGCUAGUCUUUAGAAAGACUAAGUCCAUAAAAAAAAUUGGAUCCGGAUUUAGCUUGCCCGGAUCCCAUAUGAAGUUUGCAUCCCUCCCUUGAGACUUGCUUUGUAUGAUGGUGCCAUACAAAGCUUGGGGGAAAGGUGGAGGGAUGUGAUUCUUCAUCAUUUCUUCCUUUAAAAGAAUUUGAGGUUCCUCAUCCAUGCUUGGAAUGAUGCUUUCUUUCAUCUGAACUCCCUUUCCCUUUUGUUCUUUCUUCUUUUCUUCUUUUCUAUCAGCCUUGUCUUCUUUGGCUUUCCUCUGAUCAUGCUCCGGCUGAUGCACUUCCUUACCACUUCUCAAAGUGAUAAUAGCUUGCACGUCCCUCACCUUUGAAGAAUCCUCAUCUUUGGAUUCCACUUCAUGUAUCCCCUUAGGAUUUUGGUGAGGCUGAGAGGGAAACUUCCCUUUCUCAUUGACAGUGUUCAAAUUUGUGAGCCUUGAGAUGGAAUAUUGGAUGUUGUCAAUUUUCUGAGACAACUCAUUAUGCAUCCCAUCUAUCUUCUUGUUCAAUGUACUCUCUACGUUGUCAAUCUUCUGAUUUAGUUGAGAGUUGAUGGAUUUUUGCUCGCUCACAAAGUCACCCAUAACCUUGCUAAGGCUUACGAGUGCUUGCUCAACUGAGGAUUGACCUUGACUCUGUUGGCUUGAUUGGGCUGGUGACUGAUAUGGGUUUGGCCUUGGCUUCCAUGCAAAGUUUGGGUGGUUCCUCCAGCUAGAGUUGUACGUGUUGCCAUAGGGAGCAUUUGAAUUUGGCUUCCAUUGGCCAAUCAGGUUAGCUUGUUCCCCGAACAUUUCUCUUGCUGCCAGAAUGGUGGGACAUUCUUCCACCAUAUGUUCAAAUGACUGACAUAUGGAGCAAGGAUUGGCUUGUUGUUGAGGUUCUGAAAUAGCUUGGACUUCGUGAACUUUUCUCAACUCCAUUUCCUCUAUUUUUCUAGCCAUGGCAGCUACCUUGGCUUUCAUCUCCAUGUCUUCACUCAGACUGUACAUCCCCCCUCUUGACAUUUGCUGAACUGGCCUCUUCCCCAUUUCUCUACUAUUGGGCUCAUCCCAUCCACGGGAAACCUCUGAGACAUAACUUAGGAAGUCCAUAGCCUCCUCAGGGUUCUUGCUCAUGAAAUCACCCCCACACAUUGUCUCCAAUAUCUGCUUCAUUGAAGAUGACAUGCCAUCAUAAAAAUAGCUCACCAAAAGCCAUGUAUCAAAGCCGUGGUGAGGACAUGCAUUGAUGGCCUCCAUAUACCUCUCCCAGCAUUCAUAAAAUUUUUCAUUUUCACGUGCUGAGAAGUUGGAGAUUUGUCUCUUCAAUCCAUUUGUUCUGUGAGUAGGGAAAAACUUCUUCAAAAAAUCAGCUUGAAGUUCUGUCCAUGUUCUUAUGCUUCUCGGCCUCAAGGAAUUAAGCCAUAUCUUGGCUUUGUCCUUUAAUGUGAAUGGAAAGAGCUUCAACCUCAUAAGCUCAAUAGUUGUUCCCCCUUCUUGAAAAGUAUUGCACACAUCUUCGAAUUCCUUUAUGUGCGCAUAUGGAUUUUCACUUUCCAUCCCAUGGAAAGUAGGAAGCAGAGGCACGAUGUGUGGCAUGAUAAUCAAUUGCUCUGUAGGAGGAAUGAUGCAAGAUGGUGCACUCAUCCUCGGAGGGUGCAUCCUGUCCCUCAUGGACCUAUACAAGUUCGGAUCAUUCCCCUGCCCGUGUUGUGAAUGUUGAUCCUCUGGUUGAUUCUCCAUGAUCUCCAAAAUAAUAUCUAAUUCAGUAGCUCGUGGAGUCUCUAUCCGCACUAACCUUCCCUCUUGGUCUCUAAUCCAAUAGGGCAUGCACGGAUUCAGCUGGAACAAAACAAAUAAACAAAACAAAGAAAAAGAAAAAAAAAACAGAGCAUGCGGAAGGAAAAACAGAGUAUGAAAAAUAAACUAAAAAUGAAAGUUAAAAGCUAAAAGAAACUUAUCUAAACUAAGUUAAAAAUGUUCUAAAACUAAAAUAAAAAGUUAGUAAAUGAAAAAGGAGAUAGAAUUCACCUUACUCAUGAGAAGUCUCACAAGUUACCUCCGGCUGAUAUAUUCACAGUGAAGUAGCACCUUCCCCGGCAACGGCGCCAUUUGAUACGCUUGACUCUUGGUAGCUUGGCAUGUAAGGGUAUCAACAAAAUUUAUACCUAAGGUCCUUACACUAAAGUAGCAAAGCUACUAUAGUAUAGUGGCUCUAGGAUCGAACACUGGGAAGGGUUUUUACUUUAACUAGUGAAGUUCAGAGGAUGGAGUGAACUUUUCUUAAUAAAAAUUAGGUUAAGAUGAAAACAUAAAAAGAUGAAGGUGUUGUAAACUAAACUAACAUGAAAAUAGGAUAAAAGAUGGAAAAAGAAGUUUCUCAAAGCUUUGGAUAGCCAUGCUUAACUCACCAUGUAAAAAUGGAGAUUUUGGGACUUUUCACCUCGCGUUGGGGAAGCAACUAAGGUGAUGCUUACUUCCCGAACCGGUAUGAGUUUAACAACUGAGUUUUAGUCCUUGAAAACUUACAAAAAGGGUAGCUGAACCUCAUAAAUGCCCUUUUAAUGAUAUAGGUCAUCUACUCGACUUGCAAUACAAUGGCUCGUAGGAGAUAACUAACGAACGUCAGUGGAUCUAACAAUAAGAAUCCACUGAGACCAAAAGCUUAUCAAGUAUUGGCCAUUCAAAGCAAGUCAGAGGGAUUAAAAGCUUUACUUUGAAUGAAAACAUUUAUGGUGCUCAGCUACUUACAUUCAUGGCUUGGAAAUCUCCAUCCUGACACGGGAGCUUCACAUGGCAUCCAUUACUUCAAGAAACUAAAAGGUUUUAGCCUCUCAUCCUUGGGGAUUUCAUCCUCCAAGGAUGUUUGGCUACUAAGAAAAUGAGAAAAUAGAAGAGAGAAAAAGAAAAAACAAAAGAGAUCUCUGUAUUUCACUAAGUAACUAAUUUACAUUGGUCUCCUGGAGAAAGCUCCCCGAAAAGAUAUUGUUUUCAGUGAUUACAAGAGAAUUUAUAUAGGAAGGUAGUUUUACCCUUCCUUGGAUACUUCCUAGCUAAGGAAUUACAUGGUUGGUUGAAUACAAGGAGAAAAUGGAAAUUUAAACACAAAAAUAUCAGAAGAAGAAGAGUCGGCAAACAUAUCCAAUUUUCGCACGCUGAAGUUCCAAUUUCGCACGUUGAUUUGAGGUGUGCGAAAUUUUCGCACAGUGGACUGAGGAUUUCGCACCUUGAUUUCCAUCGUGCGAAAAUUUCGCAUAGCCUGAUGCAGUUGUCUUCCGAAGGCCAUAUCUUUCUCAUUUCAGCUCUAAAUCAUACAUGGUUUAAACCGUUGGAUUCUUGACUUUCUGAGCUUUGAAAUGGUAUAUAGAAUGUAAAAAAUGAACUUCGGGAAGUGCUCCAAAAGUGCAAUGAAAGACUGCAGCUGUGUCCCCUGUUUUCCUCUUCUCCAUUGUUUCUUCCUUGUAUACUUUGAACCACUAAGGCAAAGGAUUAUGAGGCUCCAUAGCUUGAUUUCUUCAUAAAUUUAAGCUUUCAAAAGCUUUGCUCUGAACUAUAAAUAGCUCUCCCUCAUUCUUAAAUUGCUUUGGUGAGCAUAAAGCUAUCAAAAAGCACCAAAACUUAACACAUUUGUUAGAAAUGAUUGCAAAGGUCCCUAAUAUGUUAAUUGAGUUAAAAGAUAAUAAUUACUACUCAAGGGUGUUUAAAAGAGCUAAUUACAAGCUACAAAAUAGCAUGUUUUGAGUAGUAAUCAGCACCCUAGGUCCACUUACACACCCUAGGUCCACUUAGGCACCCUAGGCCCAUUUAGGCACCCUAGGUCCAUUUAGGCACAUAAGGCUCAUUUAGGCACCCAUAGGCCUAUUUCGGCACCCUACCUCCACUUAGACACCUUAGGCCCAUUUUGGCACCCUAGGCUCAUUUAGGAACCCUUGGCCCAUUUAGGCACCCUAGGCCCACUUAGUAACCCUAAGCCCACUUAGACACCCUUGGCCCAUUUAGGCACCCUAGGUCCACUUUAGCACUCUAGUCCCAUUUAGGCACCCUAGGUCCACUUAGACACGCUAGGCACAUUUAAGCAGCCAAAGCCCACUUAGGCACCCUUGGGCCAUUUUGGAACCCUAGGCUCAUUUAGGCACCCUAGGUACACUUAGGCACCCUAAGCCCAUUUAGGCAUCCUUGGCCCAUUUAGGCACCUUAGGCCCACUUAGGCACCUAGGUCCACUUAGACACCUUAGGCCCAUUCAGGCACCCUAGGUCCACUUAGGCACUCUAGACCCAUUUAGGCACCCUAGGUCCACCUAGGCACCCUAGGCCCAUUUAGGCACCCUAGGUCCAUUUACGCACCCUUGGCCCAUUUAGGUACCCUAGGCCCAUUUAGGCACCCUAGGUCCAUUUAGGCACCUUAGAGUCAUUUAGGCAUCCAUAGGCCCAUUUAGGCACCCUAGGUCCACUUAGACUCCUUAGGCCCAUUUAGGCACCCUAAGCUCAUUUAGGCACCCUUGGCCAAUUUAGGCACCUAGGCCCACUUAGACACCCUAAACCCACUUAGACACGCAGCGCCCAUUUAGGCACCCUAGGUCCACUUAGGCACCUUAGGCCCACUUAGGCACCCUUGGCCCAUUUACGCACCUAGGUCCACUUAGGCACCCUAGGCCAAUUUAGGGACCCUAAGUCGACUUAGACACCUUACGGCCAUUUAGGCACCCUAGGCUCAUUUAGGGACCCUUCGCCCAUUUAGGCACCCUAGGUCCAUUUACGACCCUAGGUCAACUUAGGCACCCUAGGUCCAUUUAGGUACCCUAGGUCCACUUAGACAGCCUAGGCCCAUUUAGGCACCCUAGGCUCAUUUAGGCACCCUUGGCCCAUUUAGGCACCCUACGCCCAUUUAGGCACCCUAGGUCAACUUAGGCAACCUAGGUCCACUUAGGCACCCCAGGUCCAUUUAGGCACCCUUGGCCCAUUGAGGCACCCUAGGCCCACUUAGGCACCCUAGUCCCAUUUACGCACCCUAGGUCCAUUUACGCACCCUAGUCCCAUUUAGGCACCAUAGGUCCACUUAGACACCCUAGGCCCAUUUAGGCACCCUAAGCCCACUUAGGCACCCUUGGUCCAUUUAGGCACCCUAGGCUCAUUUAGGUACCCUAGGUCCACUUAGGCACCCUAGGCCCAUUUAGGCACCCUUGGUCCACUUAGGCACCCUAGGCCCAUUUAGGUACCCUAGGUCUAGUUAGGAACUCUAGACCCAUUUAGGCACCUUAGGCCCAUUUAGCCACCCUAGGUCCAAUUAGGCACCUUAGGCUUAUUUAGGCACCCUAGGCCCAUUUAGAAACCCUAUGUCCACUUAGACACCUUAUGCCCAUUUAGGCACCCUAGGUCCACGUAGGCACUCUAGACCCAUUAGGCACCCUAGGUUCACUUGGGCACCCUAGGCCCAUUUAGGCACCCUAGGUCCACUUUGGCACCAUAGGCCCAUUUAGCCACCCUAGGUCCACUUACACACCUUAGGCCCAUUUAGGCACCCUAGGCUCAUUUAGGCACCCUUGGCCCAUUUAGGCACUCUAGGCCCACUUAGACACCCUAAGCCCACUUAGACACACUGUGCCCAUUUAGGCACCCUAGGUCCACUUAGGCACCCUAGGCCCAUUUAGGCACCCUAGGUCUAUUUAGGCACAUAAGGCUCAUUUAGGCACCCAUAGGCCCAUUUAGGCACCCUAGGUCCACUUACACACCCUAGGCCCAUUUAGGCACCCUAGGCUCAUUUAGGCACCCUUCGCCUAUUUAGGCACCCUAGGCUCAUUUAGUCACCCUUGGCCCAUUUACGCACCCUAGGGCCACUUAGUAACCCUAAGCCCACUUAGACACCCUUGGCCCAUUUAGGCACCCUAGGUCCACUUAGGCACUCUACGCCCAUUUAGGCACCCUAGGUCCACUUAGACACGCUAGGCCCAUUGAAGCACCCUAAGCCCACUUAGGCACCCUUGGCCCAUUUAGGAACCCUAGGCUCAUUUAGGCACCCUAGGUCCACUUAGGCACCCUAAGCCCAUUUAGGCACUCUAGGUCCAAUUAGGUACUCUAGACCCAUUUAGGCACCCUAGGUCCACUUAGGCCCCCUUGGCCCAUUUAGUCACCCUAGGUCCAUUUAGGGACGCUUGGCCCAUUUAGGCACCUUAGGCCCACUUAGGCACCCUUGGCCCAUUUAGGCACCCUAGGUCCAUUUAGGCACCCCAGGCUCAUUUAGGCAUCCUAGGCCCAUUUAGGCACCCUAGGUCCAGUUAGACACCUUAGGCCCGUUUUGGCACCCUAGGUGCAGUUAGGCAUUCUAGACCCAUUAAGGCACCCUAGGUCCACUUAGGCAGCCUAGGCCCAUUUAGGCACCCUAGGUCCAUUUAGGCACCCUUGGCCCAUUUAGGUACCCUAGGCCCAUUUAGGCACCCUAGGUCCAUUUAGGCACCUUAGGGCAUUUAGGCAUCCAUAGGCCCACUUAGGCACCCUAGGUCCACUUAGACACCUUAGGCCCAUUUAGGCACCCUAGUGUCACAAGCUGAUCCAAAUGAGCCUCCCCAUGGCCUUAUAUAGGGCCAGGAAGCUUCUGGAGACUCCUAGAGUGGGAAGAGUGUGGAAGGUUCUAGAGAAGUCUGGAGGAAUCCACACAAUUCUACACUAUGGUGGAAGGCACAAGAGGAGUCCUGGGCUUUCUAGAGGAAUCUAGAAGACUCUUGUAUAUACUUGUAUAUAGGCUUGUAUCUAGAAUGAUGUAGGACAUUCUAGAAUAGUCUUGAGUUGUAAGGAACCCUCCAAGGUUCCAGAGAGUUCCAUUGGUGCCUAUAAAUAGGUGAGGGCCUCAUUUGGCCAAGGCACCAAGCAAGUGAGCAUCCAAGCACUUGUAAAGGCUUUCUUGAGUUAAUAGAGCUUCCAUUCUUUCAAGAGUUGCCUACCAAGCUUCUUAAGCUUUUUGAGUCGCAGGUGUCUUAGACGAGCAAGCUAAGCAUUGGGGAUCAAGGCUGACUUAGCAAGAUGAAGCGUCUUGGCUUGUCUAAGUGCCGCACGAGCUUAGUGAAUGACUAAGUCUGUGAUACUAGGCUCAUUUAGGCACCCUUGGCCCAUUUAGGCACCCUAGGCCCACUUAGACACCCUAAGCCCACUUAGACACGCUACGCCCAUUUAGGCACCCUAGGUCCACUUAGGCACCUUAGGCCCACUUAGGCACCCUAGACCCAUUUAGGCACCCUAGGUCCAAUUAGGCACCCUAAGCUCAUUUUGGCACCCUAGGCCCAUUUAGGAACCCUAUGUCCACUUAGACACCUUAGGCCCAUUUAGGCACCGUCGGUCCACUUAGGCACUCUAGACCCAUUUAGGCACCCUAGGUCUACUUAGGCACCCUAGGCCCAUUUAGGUACCCUAGGUCCAUUUAGGCACCCCUUGCCCAUUUAGGUACCCUAGGCCAACUUAGGUACCCUAGGACCAUUUAGGCACCCUAGGUCCAUUUAGGCACAGAAGGCUCAUUUAAGCACCCAUAGGCCCAUUUAGGCACCCUAGGUCCACUUAGACCCCUUAAGCCCAUUUAAGCACCCUAGGCUCAUUUAGGCACCCUUGGCCCAUUUAGGCACCCUUGGCUCAUUUAGGCACCCUUGGCCCAUUUAGGCACCCUAGUGUCACAGGAUGCUUAAAAUGACCCUCCCCAUGGGCUUAUAUAGGAGGAGGGAAGCUUUUGGAGACUCCUGGAGCCAUCUACACUAAGCCAUUGGUGGGAAGAGUGUGGAAGGUUCUAGAAAUGCCUAGAGAAGUCCACACAACUCUACACUAUGGUAGAAGGCACGAGAAGGGUCCAAAGCUUUCUAGAGAAAUCUAGAAGUCUCUUGAAUAUUCUAGAAUAGUGUAGGACAUUCUAGAAGUCUCUUGAAUAUUCUUGAAUAGUGUAGGACAUUCUAGAAUAUUCAUGAAUUGUAAGGAACCCUCUAAGGUUCUAGAGAGUUCCAUUGGUGCCUAUAAAUAGGUGAGGGCCUCAUUUGGCCAAGGCACCAAGCAAGUGAGCAUCCAAGCACUUGUAAAGGCUUUCUUGAGAUAAUAAAGCUUCCAUUCUUUAAGGAGUUGCCUACUAAGCUCUUAAGCUUUCGAGUCGCGAGUGUCUUAGUCAAGCAAGCUAAGCAUUGGGGAUCAAGGCUGACUUAGCAAGAUCAAGCGUCUUGACUUGCCUAAGUGCCGCACGAGCUUAUUGAACGACUAAGUCCGUGACAAGUGGUAUCAGAGCAUGGUUACAAGGUGGGCAUAGCAAAGGAAGCAUGUCGGGCUCUAACGUGGAGGAGACUAGUGAGCAAACCCGUGGAAGGGAGACCGAGCCUACUGCACGGGGCAGGGGUAGGAAGGAUAAAUCUCGUGAUGCCAUUGCCAACAUGGAGGCAAGGUUAGCCAAGGUGGAGCUAGCCAUGGCGGACACUCGGGAGGGGUUGGACUUGAUCGAGCAAGGCAUGGAGAAGGGCUUAGAGGAUCUAAGGGAACAGAUCCAAGACCUUCGUGAGAGGGUGCUAGUCUCAAAAGUUCAGCCAGUGUCGCACGAGGAGUUUGUGUCCUUCCAAGGAAAGGUCUUGAGCAUGCUUGCUAGCAUGGAGUCAAGGAUAGAGGCCUUGACCACUCGAAUGGAGUCCCGAGACCAGGAAGUUAGGCAGGAGUUGGCCAUUUACAAGGCUGCUGUGUCGGCACGGGUCAUGGCCACACAAGGGGCAUCUAGGGUGGAGGUGCCGAAGCCACAAGGGUUUAGUGGCAAGAGGGAUGCCAAGGAGUUAGAUAACUUCUUAUGGCAUAUGGAGCGAUACUUCGAAGCUAUCGCAUUGACGGAUGAGGCGGCUAAGGUGAGAAUUGCGACCCUCUACCUUACUGACACAGCUACUCUAUGGUGGCGUCGAAGGUUUGCCGAUAUGGAGAAAGGCAUUUGCACCAUAAAGACGUGGGAGGACUUCAAGAAGGAGAUCAAGAGGCAGUUCUACCCCGAGGACGUGGCUUACCUGGCUAGGAAAAACAUGAGGCGUCUCAAGCACACAGGCUCGAUACGUGAAUAUGUCAAGGAAUUCUCUUCGCUCAUGCUUGAGAUUCCUAACAUGACUCAGGAAGAGUUGCUAUUCAACUUCAUGGAUAACCUGCAAGGGUGGGCCGAGCAGGAAUUAAGGCGCCGGGGCGUUCAAGACUUAGCCACUGCUAUGGCAAUAGCAGAAUCUUUAGCGGAUUAUAAGAGGGGAGACUCCUCCAAGAUUGAGUCUUUAGAGGAUAGCCACGCCAUGGGUGGGGGAGACGAGGAUCUAAUGGACCACAAUGCUCCUAAAAAGGGAUCAAGCAAGACGCCUAACGUCCAAGAAGGAAGGGGUAAGGCGGCAAGCAAGGAGUUCACGCCUAAAAUCAAAUGCUUCCUAUGUGACGGACCACAUUGGGCACGGGAUUGUCCAAAGAGGAAGGCGCUUAGUGCCAUGAUCGAGGAGAGGGAGCAGGAGGAUGAAGCACAUAUGGGCUCAAUGCAGCUACUAGGUGCCCUCCAAUUCAACCCGAAGCCUAGUACGCCUGAGACCUCCUUACUAGCAGGCGUGCAAGUAAAGGAGGAAAAAGGGGAGCGAGCUGAGGUAGCCCACACACGCAUGGAAGAAGUCACCAAGGGAAAGGUGAACUCAAUGGGUAAAAGGAAGCAGCACUCUAAGCAUCGAAAGCGCAUGGGUCUGCAUCCAUCUAAGGCCUCACGGGAGAAGGAGGUGAAGAAUAUCCUAGCUGAACGGGUCACUAGGAGACAAGGGGUCCCUCCUGUGAUAGAGUAUCUAGUCCGAUGGAAAGGACUACCUAAGAGGCCGCUAAGCUGGGAACAUGCGGAUGCCUUGAGAAAAUUCUGGAAACACAUCGAGAGGUUUCAGAAUGAGGCAACGACGAGGACGUCGACGGCAUCGGUGGGGGAGAGUGUCACAGGAUGCUUAAAAUGACCCUCCCCAUGGGCUUAUAUAGGAGGAGGGAAGCUUUUGGAGACUCCUGGAGCCAUCUACACUAAGCCAUUGGUAGGAAGAGUGUGGAAGGUUCUAGAAAUGCCUAGAGAAGUCCACACAACUCUACACUAUGGUAGAAGGCAUGAGAAGGGUCCAAAGCUUUCUAGAGAAAUCUAGAAGUCUCUUGAAUAUUCUAGAAUAGUGUAGGACAUUCUAGAAGUCUCUUGAAUAUUCUAGAAUAGUGUAGGACAUUCUAGAAUAUUCAUGAAUUGUAAGGAACCCUCCAAGGUUCUAGAGAGUUCCAUUGGUGCCUAUAAAUAGGUGAGGGCCUCAUUUGGCCAAGGCACCAAGCAAGUGAGCAUCCAAGCACUUGUAAAGGCUUUCUUGAGAUAAUAAAGCUUCCAUUCUUUAAGGAGUUGCCUACUAAGCUCUUAAGCUUUCGAGUCGCGAGUGUCUUAGCCGAGCAAGCUAAGCAUUGGGGAUCAAGGCUGACUUAGCAAGAUCAAGCGUCUUGACUUGCCUAAGUGCCGCACGAGCUUAGUGAACGACUAAGUCCGUGACACUAGGCCCACUUAGUAACCCUAAGCACACUUAGACACCCUUGGCCCAUUUAGGCACCCUAGGUCCACUUGGGCACUCUAGGCCCAUUUAGGCACCCUAGGUCCACUUAGACACGCGAGGCCCAUUUAAGCACCCUAAGUCCACUUAGGCACCCUUGGCCCAUUUAGGAACCCUAGGCUCAUUUAGGCACCCUAGGUCCACUUAGGGACCCUAAGCCCAUUUAGGCACUCUAGGUCAUAUUAGGCACUCUUGACCCAUUUAGGCACCCUAGGCCCAUUUAUGCACCCUAGGUCCAUUUAGGCACCGUUGGCCCAUUUAGGCACCCUAGGCCCACUUAGGCAACCUUGGCCCAUUUAGGCACCCUAGGUCCAUUUAAACACCCUAGGCUCAUUUAGGCACCCUAGGCCCAUUUAGGCACCCUAGGUCCAAUUAGACACCUUAGGCCCAUUUUGGCACCCUAGGUUCACUUAGGCAUUCUAGACCCAUUUAGGCACCCUAGGUCUACUUAGGCACCCUAGGCCCAUUUAGGCACCCUAGGUCCAUUUAAGCAUCCUUAGCCCAUUUAGGUACCCUAGGCCCAUUUAGGCCCCCUAGGUCCAUUUAGGCCCCCUAGGUCCAUUUAGGCCCCCUAGGUCCAUUUAGGCAUCUUAGGGUCAUUUAGGCAUCCAUAGGCCCAUUUAGGCACCCUAGGUCCACUUAGCCACCUUAGGCCCAUUUAGGCACCCUACGCUCAUUUAGGCACCCUUGGCACAUUUAAGCACCGUAGGCCCACUUAGACACCCUAAGCCCACUUAGACACACUGCACCCAUUUAGGCACCCUAGGUCCACUAAGGCACCUUAGGCCCAUUUAGGCACCCUAGGUCCACUUAGACACCUUAGGCCCAUUUAGGCACCCUAGGCUCAUUUAGGCACCCUUGGCCCAUUUAGGUACCCUAGGCCCAUUUAGGCACACUUGGUCCACUUAGGCACCCUAGGUUCACUUAGGCACCCCAGGUCCAUUUAGGCACCCUUGGCCCAUUUAGGCACCCUACGCCCACUUAGGCACCCUAGGCCCAUAUAGGCACCCUAGGUCCAUUUAGGCACCCUAGGCCCAUUUAGACCCCUUAGGCCCAUUUAGGCACCCUAACCCCACUUAGGCACGCUUGGCCCAUUAGGCACCCUAGCCUCAUUUAGGCACCCUAGGUCCACUUAGGCACCCUAGGCCCAUUCAGGCACCCUUGGUCCACUUAGGCACCCUAGGCCCAUUUAGGCACCCUAAGUCCAAUUAGGCUCUCUAGACCCAUUUAGGCACCUUAGGCAUCCUUGACCCAGUUAUGCACCCUAGGUCCACUUAGACACCUUAGGCCCACCUAGGCACCCUAGGCCCAUUUAGGCACCCUAGGUCCAAUUAGGCACCCUACGCUCAUUUUGGCACCCUAGGCCUAUUUAGGAACCCUAUGUCCACUUAGACAACUUAGGCCCAUUUAGGCACCUUAGGUCCACUUAGGCACUCUAGACCCAUUUAGGCACCUUAGGUUUACUUAGGCACCCUAGACCCAUUUAGGUACCCUAGGUCCAUUUAGGCACCCUUUGCCCAUUUAGGUACCGUAGGCCCACUUAGGUACCCUAGGACUAUUUAGGCAUCCUAGGUCCAUUUAGGCACAUAAGGCUCAUUUAAGCACCCAUAGGCCCAUUUAGGCACCCUAGGUCCACUUAGACACCUUAGGGCUAUUUAGGCACCUUAGGCUCAUUUAGGCACCCUUGGCUCAUUUAGGCACCCUAGGCUCAUUUAGGCACCCUUGGUCCAUUUAGGCACAUAAGGCUCAUUUAAGCACCCAUAGGCCCAUUUAGGCACCCUAGGUCCACUUAGACACCUUAGGGCUAUUUAGGCACCUUAGGCUCAUUUAGGCACCCUUGGCUCAUUUAGGCACCCUAGGCUCAUUUAGGCACCCUUGGUCCAUUUAGGCACAUAAGGCUCAUUUAAGCACCCAUAGGCCCAUUUAGGCACCCUAGGUCCACUUAGACACCUUAGGGCUAUUUAGGCACCUUAGGCUCAUUUAGGCACCCUUGGCUCAUUUAGGCACCCUAGGCUCAUUUAGGCACCCUUGGCCCAUUUAGGCACCCUUGGCCCAUUUCGGCACCCUAGGCCCAUUUAGUAACCCUAAGCCCACUUAGACACCCUUGGCCCAUUUAGGCACCCUAGGUCCACUUAGGCAUUCUAGGCCCAUUUAGGCACCCUAGGUCCACUUAGACACGCUAGGCCCAUUUAAGCACCGUAAGCCCACUUAGGCACCUUUGUCCCAUUUAGGAACCCUAGGCUCAUUUAGGCACCCUAGGUCUACUUAGGCACCCUAAGCCCAUUUAAGCACUCUAGGUCAUAUUAGGCACUCUAGACCCAUUUAGGCACCCUAGGUCCACUUAGGCACCCUAGGCCCAUUUAUGCACCCUAGGUCCAUUUAGGCACCCUUGGCUCAUUUAGGCACCCUAGGCCCACUUAGGCACCCUUGGCCCAUUUAGGCACCCUAGGUCCAUUUAGCCACCCUAGGCUCAUUUAGGCACCCUAGGCCCAUUUAGGCACCCUAGGUCCAAUUAGACACCUUAUGCCCAUUUUGGCACCCUAGGUCCACUUAGGCAUUCUAGACCCAUUUAGGCACCCUAGGUCCACUUAGUCACCUUAGGCCCAUUUAGGCACCCUAGGUCCAUUUUGGCAUCCUUAGCCCAUUUAGGUACCCUAGGCCCAUUUAGGCCCCCUACGUCCAUUUAGGCACCUUAGGGUCAUUUAGGCAUCCAUAGGCCCAUUUAGGCUCUUUAGGUCGACUUAGCCACCUUAGGCCCAUUUAGGCACCCUACGCUCAUUUAGGCACCCUUGGCCCAUUUAGGCACCCUAGGCCCACUUAGACACCCUAAGCCCACACGCUGUGCCUAUUUAGGCACCCUAGGUCCACUUAGGCACCCUAGGCCCAUUUAGGCACCCCGGGUCCAUUAAGGCACCCUUGGCCUAUUUAGGUACCCUAUGCCCAUUUAGGCACCCUAGGUCCAUUUGGGCACCUUAGGGUCAUUUGGGCAUCCAUAGGCCCAUUUAGGCACCCUAGGUGCACUUAGACACCCUUGGCCCAUUUAGGCACCCUAGGCCCACUUAGACACCCCACGCCCACUUAGACACGCUACGCCCAUUUAGGCACCCUAGGUCCACUUAGGCACCAUAGGCCCACUUAGGCACCCCAGGUCCAUUUAGGCACCCUUGGCCCGUUUAGGCACCCUACGCCCACUUAGGCACCCUAGGCCCAUUAAAGCACCCAAGUCCAUUUAAGCACCCUAGGUCCAUUUAAGCACCCUNNNNNNNNNNNNNNNNNNNNNNNNNNNNNNNNNNNNNNNNNNNNNNNNNNNNNNNNNNNNNNNNNNNNNNNNNNNNNNNNNNNNNNNNNNNNNNNNNNNNUAGUCCAUUUGGCAUCCUUAGCCUUUAGGUACCUUAGGUCCAUUUAGGCCCCUUACGGCCAGUUAGGCACCAAGAGUCAUUUAGGCAUCCAUAGUCCCAUUAGGCUCUUUAGGUCGAUUUAGACACUUAGGCCCAUUUAGGCAACCNUACGGUCAUUUAGGCACCCUUGGCCCAUAUAGGCACCGUAGGCCCACUUAGACACCCUAAGCCACACGCUGUGCCUAAUUAGGCACCUUAGGUCCAAAUAGGCACCCUAGGCCCAUUUAGGCACCCCGGGUCCAUUAAGGCACCCUUGGCCUAUUUAGGUACCCUAUGCCCAUUUAGGCACCCUAGGUCCAUUUGGGCACCUUAGGGUCAUUUGGGCAUCCAUAGGCCCAUUUAGGCACCCUAGGUGCACUUAGACACCCUUGGCCCAUUUAGGCACCCUAGGCCCACUUAGACACCCCACGCCCACUUAGACACGCUACGCCCAUUUAGGCACCCUAGGUCCACUUAGGCACCAUAGGCCCACUUAGGCACCCCAGGUCCAUUUAGGCACCCUUGGCCCGUUUAGGCACCCUACGCCCACUUAGGCACCCUAGGCCCAUUUAGGCACCCAAGGUCCAUUUAGGCACCCUAGGCCCAUUUAGGCACCCUAGGUCCACUUAGACACCUUAGGCCCAUUUAGGUACCCUAAGCCCACUUAGGCACCCUAGGCCCAUUUAGGCACCCUAAGUCCAAUUAGGCUCUCUAGACCCAUUUAGGCACCUUAGGCAUCCUUGGCCCAGUUAUGCACCCUAGGUCCACUUAGACACCUUAGGCCCACUUAGGCACCCUAGGCCCAUUUAGGCACCCUAGGUCCAAUUAGGCACCCUACGCUCAUUUUGGCACCCUAGGCCUAUUUAGGAACCCUAUGUCCACUUAGACAACUUAGGCCCAUUUAGGCACCUUAGGUCCACUUAGGCACUCUAGACCCAUUUAGGCACCUUAGGUCUACUUAGGCACCCUAGACCCAUUUAGGUACCCUAGGUCCAUUUAGGCACCCUUUGCCCAUUUAGGUACCGUAGGCCCACUUAGGUACCCUAGGACUAUUUAGGCAUCCUAGGUCCAUUUAGGCACAUAAGGCUCAUUUAAGCACCCAUAGGCCCAUUUAGGCACCCUAGGUCCACUUAGACACCUUAGGGCUAUUUAGGCACCUUAGGCUCGUUUAGGCACCCUUGGCUCAUUUAGGCACCCUAGGCUCAUUUAGGCACCCUUGGCCCAUUUAGGCACCCUUGGCCCAUUUCGGCACCCUAGGUCCAUUUAGUAACCCUAAGCCCACUUAGACACCCUUGGCCCAUUUAGGCACCCUAGGUCCACUUAGGCAUUCUAGGCCCAUUUAGGCACCCUAGGUCCACUUAGACACGCUAGGCCCAUUUAAGCACCGUAAGCCCACUUAGGCACCCUUGUCCCGUUUAGGAACCCUAGGCUCAUUUAGGCACCCUAGGUCUACUUAGGCACCCUAAGCCCAUUUAAGCACUCUAGGUCAUAUUAGGCACUCUAGACCCAUUUAGGCACCCUAAGUCCACUUAGGCACCCUAGGCCCAUUUAUGCACCCUAGGUCCAUUUAGGCACCCUUGGCUCAUUUAGGCACCCUAGGCCCACUUAGGCACCCUUGGCCCAUUUAGGCACCCUAGGUCCAUUUAGCCACCCUAGGCUCAUUUAGGCACCCCAGGCCCAUUUAGGCACCCUAGGUCCAAUUAGACACCUUAUGCCCAUUUUGGCACCCUAGGUCCACUUAGGCAUUCUAGACCCAUUUAGGCACCCUAGGUCCACUUAGUCACCUUAGGCCCAUUUAGGCACCCUAGGUCCAUUUUGGCAUCCUUAGCCCAUUUAGGUACCCUAGGCCCAUUUAGGCCCCCUACGUCCAUUUAGGCACCUUAGGGUCAUUUAGGCAUCCAUAGGCCCAUUUAGGCUCUUUAGGUCGACUUAGCCACCUUAGGCCCAUUUAGGCACCCUACGCUCAUUUAGGCACCCUUGGCCCAUUUAGGCACCCUAGGCCCACUUAGACACCAUAAGCCCACACGCUGCGCCUAUUUAGGCACCCUAGGUCCACUUAGGCACCCUAGGCCCAUUUAGGCACCCCGGGUCCAUUAAGGCACCCUUGGCCUAUUUAGGUACCCUAUGCCCAUUUAGGCACCCUAGGUCCAUUUGGGCACCUUAGGGUCAUUUGGGCAUCCAUAGGCCCAUUUAGGCACCCUAGGUGCACUUAGACACCCUUGGCCCAUUUAGGCACCCUAGGCCCACUUAGACACCCCACGCCCACUUAGACACGCUACGCCCAUUUAGGCACCCUAGGUCCACUUAGGCACCAUAGGCCCACUUAGGCACCCUAGGUCCACUUAGGCACCCCAGGUCCAUUUAGGCACCCUUGGCCCGUUUAGGCACCCUACGCCCACUUAGGCACCCUAGGCCCAUUUAGGCACCCAAGGUCCAUUUAGGCACCCUAGGCCCAUUUAGGCACCCUAGGUCCACUUAGACACCUUAGGCCCAUUUAGGUACCCUAAGCCCACUUAGGCACCCUUGGCCCAUUUAGGCACUCUAGGCUCAUUUGGGCACCCUAGGUCCACUUAGGCACCCUAGGCCCAUUUAGGCACCCUUGGUACACUUAGGCACCCUAGGCCCAUUUAGUCACCCUAAGUCCAGUUAGGCACUCUAGACCCAUUUAGGCACCUUAGGCCCACUUAGGCAUUGUUGGCCCAUUUAGGCACCCUAGGUCCACUUAGACACCUUUGGCCCACUUAAGCACCCUAGGCCCUUUUAGGCGCCCUAGGUCCCUUUAGGAACCCUUGGCUCAUUUAGGCACCCUAGGCCCACUUAGGCACCCUAGGCCCAUUUAGGCACUCUAGGUCCAUUUAGGCACCUUAGGCUCAUUUAGGCACCUUAGGCCCAUUUAGGAACCCUAUGUCUACUUAGACACCUUUUGCCCAUUUAGGCACCCUAGGUCCACUUAGGCACUCUAGACCCAUUUAGGCACCCUAGGUCCACUUAGGCACCCUAGGCCCAUUUAGGCACCUUAGGUCCAUUUAGGCUCUCUAGGCCCAUUUCGGCACCAUAGGUCCACUAAGACACGCUAGGCACAUUUAAGCACCUAAGCACCCUAGGCACAUUUACGAACCUAAGGCUCAUUUAGGCACUCAUGGGCCCAUUUAGGCCCCCUAGGUCCACUUAGACACCUUAGGCUCAUUUAGGCACCCGAGGCUCAUUUAGGCACCCUUGGCCCAUUUAGGCACCUAGGCUCAUUUAGGCACCUUUGGCCCAUUUAGGCACCCUAGGCCCACUUAGACACCCUGAGCCCACUUAGACAUCCUUGGCCCAUUUAGGCACCCUAGGUCCAAUUAGGCUCUCUAGGCCCAUUUCGGCACCCUAGGUCCACUAAGACACGCUAGGAACAUUUAAGCACCCUAAGCCCACUUAGGCACCCUUGGCCCAUUUACGAACCCUAGGCUCAUUUAGGCACCAUAGGUCCACUUAGGUACCCUAGGCCCAUUUAGGCAUUCUAGGUCCAAUUAGGCACUUUAGACCCAUUUGGGCACCCUAGGUCCACUUAGGCACCCUAGGCCCAUUUAGGCACCCUAGGUCCACUCAGGCACCCUAGGCCGAUUUAGGCACCCUUGGUCCACUUAAGCACCCUAGGCCCAUUUUGGCACCCUAGGUCCAGUUAGCCACUCUAGACCCAUUUAGGCACCUUAGGUCCACUUAAGCAUCCUUGGCCCAUUUUGGCACCCUAGGUCCACUUAGGCACUCUAGUCCCAUUUAGGCACCCUAGGUCCACUUAGGCACCCUAGGCCCAUUUAGGCACCCUAGGUCCAUUUAGGCACCCUAGGUCCAUUUAGGCACCCUAGGUCCAUGUAGGCACCCUAGGCUCAUUUAGGCACCCUAGGCCAAUUUAGACACCCUAGGUCCACUUAGACAGCUUAGGCCCAUUUAGGCACCCUAGGUCCACUUAGGCACCCUUGGCCCAUUAAGGCACCCUAGGUCCAUUUAGGCACCCUUGGCCCAUUUAGGUACCCUAGGCCCAUUUAGGCACCUUAGGUCCAUUUAGGCAGCUUAGUGUCACAAGAUGCUUCAAAUGACCCUCCCCAUGGCUUAUAUAGGAGGUGAGAAGCUUCUAGAGACCCUUGGAGACAUCCACACUUAGCCACUAGUGGGAAGAGUGUGGAAGGUUCUAGAAAUGCCUAGAGAAGUCCACACAACUCUACACUAUGGUAGAAGGCAUGAGAAGGGUCCAAAGCUUUCUAGAGAAAUCUAGAAGUCUCUUGAAUAUUCUAGAAUAGUGUAGGACAUUCUAGAAGUCUCUUGAAUAUUCUAGAAUAGUGUAGGACAUUCUAGAAUAUUCAUGAAUUAUAAGGAACCCUCCAAGGUUCUAGAGAGUUCCAUUGAUGCCUAUAAAUAGGUGAGGGCCUCAUUUGGCCAAGGCACCAAGCAAGUGAGCAUCCAAGCACUUGUAAAGGCUUUCUUGAGAUAAUAAAGCUUCCAUUCUUUAAGGAGUUGCCUACUAAGCUCUUAAGCUUUCGAGUCGCGAGUGUCUUAACCGAGCAAGCUAAGCAUUGGGGAUCAAGGCUGACUUAGCNNNNNNNNNNNNNNNNNNNNNNNNNNNNNNNNNNNNNNNNNNNNNNNNNNNNNNNNNNNNNNNNNNNNNNNNNNNNNNNNNNNNNNNNNNNNNNNNNNNNGCACCUUAGGUCCAUUUUUGCAGCUUAGUGUCACAAGAUGCUUCAAAUGACCCUCCCCAUGGCUUAUAUAGGAGGUGAGAAGCUUCUAGAGACCCUUGGAGACAUCCACACUUAGCCACUAGUGGGAAGAGUGUGGAAGGUUCUAGAAAUGCCUAGAGAAGUCCACACAACUCUACACUAUGGUAGAAGGCAUGAGAAGGGUCCAAAGCUUUCUAGAGAAAUCUAGAAGUCUCUUGAAUAUUCUAGAAUAGUGUAGGACAUUCUAGAAGUCUCUUGAAUAUUCUAGAAUAGUGUAGGACAUUCUAGAAUAUUCAUGAAUUAUAAGGAACCCUCCAAGGUUCUAGAGAGUUCCAUUGAUGCCUAUAAAUAGGUGAGGGCCUCAUUUGGCCAAGGCACCAAGCAAGUGAGCAUCCAAGCACUUGUAAAGGCUUUCUUGAGAUAAUAAAGCUUCCAUUCUUUAAGGAGUUGCCUACUAAGCUCUUAAGCUUUCGAGUCGCGAGUGUCUUAACCGAGCAAGCUAAGCAUUGGGGAUCAAGGCUGACUUAGCAAGAUCAAGCGUCUUGACUUGCCUAAGUGCCGCACGAGCUUAGUGAACGACUAAGUCCGUGACAAGUGGCAUCAGAGCGUGGCUACGAAGCGGGCAUAAGGGAAGCAUGUCGGGCUCUAACGUGGAGGAGACUAGCGAACAAACCCGUGGGAGGGAGGCCGAGCCUACUGCAUGGGGCAGGGGCAGAGGUAAGAAGGAUACAUCUCGUGAUGUUGUUGCCAACAUGGAGGCAAGGUUAGGCAAGGUGGAGCUAGCCAUGGCAGACACCCGGGAAGGGGUGGACUUGAUCGAGCAAGGCAUGGAGAAGGGCUUAGAGGAUCUAAGGGAGCAGAUCCAAGACCUUCGCGAGGGGGUGCUGGUCUCGCAAGUUCAACCGGUGUCACACGAGGAGUUCAUGUCUUUCCAAGACAAAGUCAUGAGCAUGUUCGCUAGUGUGGAGUCAAGGAUGGAGGCCUUGACUACACGAGUGGAGGCCCGAGACCAAGAGAUUCGACAAGAGUUGGCCAUCUAUAAGACCGCUGUAUCAGCACGAGUCAUGGCCACUCAUGAGGCACCAAGGGUGGAGGUGCCCAAGCCACACACGUUCAGUGGCAAGAGGGAUGCCAGGGAGCUAGAUAACUUCUUGUGGCACAUGGAGCGUUACUUUGAGGCAAUUGCAUUAACGGAUGAAGCCACUAAGGUACGCACCGCGACCCUUUACCUCACUGAUAAUGCUACUCUAUGGUGGCGUCGACGAUUUGCCGACAUAGAGAGAGGGACGUGCACCAUAGACACAUGGGAUGCCUUUAAGAGAGAAAUCAAGAGGCAAUUCUAUCCCGAAGACGUGGCUUACCUAGCAAGGAAGAGUUUGAAGCGUCUCAAGCACACGGGCUCGAUCCGUGAGUAUGUCAAAGAAUUCUCUACUCUUAUGCUUGAGAUACCUAACAUGGCUGAGGAGGAGCUACUGUUCAACUUCAUGGACAACUUGCAAAGUUGGGCCGAGCAAGAGUUGAGGAGACGUGGUGUCCAAGACCUAGCCACGGCCAUGGCAGUAGCCGAGUCCUUAGUAGAUUAUAGAAGGGGAGACUCCUCCAAGCCCAAGCCACCAUCCAAGGGUAACCAGGCCAAAGGUGGGGGAGACAAGAGGUCGCAAGGCCAUACCUCUAAGGAAGGAUCAAGCAAAGGCCCUAGUGGCAAGGAUGGCAAAGGCAAGGACAAGCGAAAGGAGUUCACGCCCAGGACCAAUUGCUUCCUGUGCGAUGGUCCGCACUGGGCACGGGACUGCCCUAAGAGGAAGGCCUUAAAUGCUAUGAUCGAGGAAAAGGAGCAAGAAGGCGAUGCUAAGAUGGGAUCGUUGCAGCUCUUAAAUGCCCUUAAGGCCAAGCCGAUGCCUAAGACGCCUCAAAGCAAAGGGCUGAUGUAUGUGGAGGCCCUUGUGAAUGAGAAGGCCACCAAGGCCCUGGUGGACACAGGUGCCACUCACAACUUUGUCUCGGAGGAUGAGGCAAGAAGGUUGGAGCUCCAAGCAUCCAAGGAAGGAGGAUGGCUCAAGGCAGUCAAUUCAGCCGCCAAGCCAUCACAUGGAGUAGCUCGCGGGGUGACUAUGCACAUUGGCUCGUGGGAAGGAAGGGUCGACUUCACAGUGGCACCCAUGGAUGACUUCAAGAUGGUGCUAGGAAUGGACUUCCUACAGAAGGUCAAGGCCGUGCCACUACCUUUCCUAUGCUCAAUGGCUAUCCUAGAGGAGGAGAAGUCGUGCAUGGUCCCUACGGUCAAUGAAGGUACGCUCAAGACCCCUAUGUUAUCCGCUAUGCAAGUAAAGAAGGGGUUAAAGAGGGAAGAGGUGACCUACCUCGCCACCCUAAAGGAAGAAAAGGAUGAUGGGUCGGGAGAACCCAUGCCUAGAGAAAUCGAGGGGGUCCUUGAUGAGUUCAAGGACGUUAUGCCGCCCGAGUUGCCCAAAAGACUUUCUCCUAGGAGAGAGGAAGAUCACAAGAUUGAGCUGGAGCCGGGAGCCAAGCCCCCUGCUAUGGGGCCAUAUAGGAUGGCACCACCCGAGUUGGAGGAGCUAAGGAGACAACUCAAGGAGUUGCUAGAUGCGGGGUUCAUCCAACCAUCCAAGGCUCCUUAUGGCGCGCCGGUUCUAUUUCAGAAAAAGCAUGAUGGGUCCCUACGAAUGUGCAUAGAUUACCGGGCACUCAACAAGGUGACGGUGAAGAACAAGUAUCCCAUCCCGCUCAUUGCUGACUUGUUCGAUCAACCUGGUAGGGCAAGGUACUUCACGAAGCUAGACUUAAGGUUAGGCUACUACCAAGUGAGGAUUGCUGAGGGAGAUGAGCCGAAGACUACAUGUGUGACCAGGUAUGGCUCAUAUGAGUUCUUAGUAAUGCCUUUCGGAAUCACCAAUGCCCCAGCAACGUUUUGCACCCUCAUGAACAAGAUCUUCCACCCAUACUUGGACAAGUUUGUGGUGGUGUACUUGGAUGACAUAGUCAUCUAUAGUAACACUCUAAAGGAGCACGUAGAGCACUUGAGGAAGGUCUUUAAGAUCUUGAGGCAGAACGAGCUAUACGUGAAGAAGGAGAAGUGUUCGUUUGCUAAGGAGGAAGUGAGCUUCCUUGGGUAUCGCAUCAGAGAUGGCAAGCUGAUGAUGGAUGAUAGCAAGGUGAAGGCCAUCCAAGAAUGGGAUUCACCAACCAAGGUACCUCAACUCAGAUCUUUCCUUGGUUUAGUUAAUUACUAUCGGCGGUUCAUAAAGGGUUAUUCGGCAAGGGCUGCUCCACUCACUGAUCUUCUGAAGAAGAAUAAGGCAUGGGAAUGGGAUGAAAGGUGCCAACAAGCCUUUGAGGACCUGAAGAAGGUUGUGACUGAGGAGCCAGUGUUGGCACUACCCGACCACACCAAGGUCUUGGAGGUACACACAGAUGCCUCAGACUUCGCUAUUGGGGGAGUCCUUAUGCAAGAAAGACACCCAAUUGCAUUUGAGAGUCGCAAGCUAAACGACGCGGAGAGGCGUUACACGGUGCAAGAAAAGGAGAUGACCGCUAUCGUUCACUGCUUGCGCACCUGGAGGCACUAUUUGCUAGGGUCUCACUUCAUAGUGAAGACCGACAAUGUGGCCACUAGCUACUUCCAGACACAGAAGAAGCUGAGUCCUAAACAAGCUAGGUGGCAAGACUUCCUGGCCGAGUUCGACUAUACGCUGGAGUAUAAGCCAGGAAGUGCUAAUCAUGUGGCUGACGCCGUAAGUCCCAAAGCUGAGCUAGCGUCCAUAACGAGUCAGCCCCAAGGAGACAUAAUGGAUCUUCUAAGGGAGGGACUGUAACAUAAUCCAGUGGCUAAGAGCCUCAUCGCCCUGGCUCAUGAAGGGAAGACCAAGCGGUUUUGGGUGGAGGACGGCUUACUCUACACCAAAGGGAGACGACUCUACGUGCCUAAGUGGGGGAACAUAAGGCGGAACCUGAUUAAGGAGUGCCAUGACACCAAGUGGGCAGGGCACCCUGGGCAACGACGCACUAGGGCACUACUCGAGUCGGCUUACUAUUGGCCUCAGAUACGGGACGAGGUUGAGGCCUAUGUGAGGACUUGUCUUGUGUGCCAACAAGACAAGGUGGAACAACGACAACCUAGAGACAUGUUAGAGCCACUACCUGUAGCAGAACGCCCAUGGGACAGCGUCACCAUGGACUUCAUCAUCGGGCUACCUAAGUUAGAGGACAACGACUCUAUCAUAGUGGUGGUGGAUAGGUUCUCUAAGUAUGCAACCUUCAUAGCAGCCCCGACUGACUGCACUGCGGAAGAGACGGCGAGGCUAUUCCUAAAGCACGUAGUCAAGUAUUGGGGGUUGCCUAAGUUCAUCAUCAGUGAUCGCGACCCGCGCUUCACUGGGAAGUUUUGGACGAAGCUCUUCAAGCUUAUGGGUUCGGAGCUUCACUUCUCCACCAGCUUUCACCCACAGACAGAUGGGCAGACUGAGAGGGUGAACGCCUUGCUGGAGCUAUACUUGAGGCACUUUGUGAGUGCCAACCAGAGGGAUUGGGCUAAGUUGCUAGAUAUAGCCCAGUUCUCAUACAACUUGCAAAGGAGUGAGGCGACCAACAAGAGCCCGUUCGAGCUAGCCACAAGGCAGCAACCCUUAACUCCUCACACGCUAACGAUAGGCUACACAGGGAGAAGUCCAGCGGCUUUCAAGUUCGCGAAGGGGUGGCAUGAGUAAGCUGACAUAGCACGCUCGUACUUGGACAAGGCCGCUAAGAAAAUGAAGAAGUGGGCUGACAAGAAGCGACGUCACACGGAGUACAAGGUUGGAGACAUGGUGCUUGUCAAGCUCCUUCCUCAACAAUUCAAAUCCCUAAGGCCAGUGCAUAAGGGCCUUGUGAGGAGGUAUGAAGGACCCUUCCCUAUACUUGGAAAGGUCGGCAAGGUGUCCUACAAAGUGGAGUUACCGCCAAGGUUAAAGAUUCACCUUGUCUUCCACAUGAGUUACUUGAAGCCAUAUCACGAAGACAAGGAUGAUCCAAGCCGAGGGCUUUCUAAGAGGGCACCUACAGCGGUUGUGACCUCCUAUGACAAGGAGGUGGAACACAUCAUUGCAGACCGAAUCAUCAGAAGGCGUGGUGUGCCUCCUGCUACGGAGUACUUAGUGAAAUGGAAGGGACUACCAGAAAGCGAGGCUAGUUGGGAGCCAGCAAAUGCACUAUGGCAGUUCCAGGAACAGAUUGAGCGGUUCCGGGCAGAAGACACGACGAGGACGUCUGCGGCUUAGGUGGGGGAGAGUGUCACAAGAUGCUUCAAAUGACCCUCCCCAUGGCUUAUAUAGGAGGUGAGAAGCUUCUAGAGACCCUUGGAGACAUCCACACUUAGCCACUAGUGGGAAGAGUGUGGAAGGUUCUAGAAAUGCCUAGAGAAGUCCACACAACUCUACACUAUGGUAGAAGGCAUGAGAAGGGUCCAAAGCUUUCUAGAGAAAUCUAGAAGUCUCUUGAAUAUUCUAGAAUAGUGUAGGACAUUCUAGAAGUCUCUUGAAUAUUCUAGAAUCGUGUAGGAGAUUCUAGAGAGUUCCAUUGGUGCCUAUAAAUAGGUGAGGGCCUCAUUUGGCCAAGGCACCAAACAAAGUGAGCAUCCAAGCACUUGUAAAGGCUUCUUUGAGUAAUAAGAGCUUCCAUUAUUUAAAAGUUGCCUACUACACUUCUCAGCUUCCGAGUCGUGAGCAUCUUAGCCUAGCAAGCUAAGUGUCGGGGGUAAGGCUGACUUAGCAAGANNNNNNNNNNNNNNNNNNNNNNNNNNNNNNNNNNNNNNNNNNNNNNNNNNNNNNNNNNNNNNNNNNNNNNNNNNNNNNNNNNNNNNNNNNNNNNNNNNNNNNNNNNNNNNNNNNNNNNNNNNNNNNNNNNNNNNNNNNNNNNNNNNNNNNNNNNNNNNNNNNNNNNNNNNNNNNNNNNNNNNNNNNNNNNNNNNNNNNNNNNNNNNNNNNNNNNNNNNNNNNNNNNNNNNNNNNNNNNNNNNNNNNNNNNNNNNNNNNNNNNNNNNNNNNNNNNNNNNNNNNNNNNNNNNNNNNNNNNNNNNNNNNNNNNNNNNNNNNNNNNNNNNNNNNNNNNNNNNNNNNNNNNNNNNNNNNNNNNNNNNNNNNNNNNNNNNNNNNNNNNNNNNNNNNNNNNNNNNNNNNNNNNNNNNNNNNNNNNNNNNNNNNNNNNNNNNNNNNNNNNNNNNNNNNNNNNNNNNNNNNNNNNNNNNNNNNNNNNNNNNNNNNNNNNNNNNNNNNNNNNNNNNNNNNNNNNNNNNNNNNNNNNNNNNNNNNNNNNNNNNNNNNNNNNNNNNNNNNNNNNNNNNNNNNNNNNNNNNNNNNNNNNNNNNNNNNNNNNNNNNNNNNNNNNNNNNNNNNNNNNNNNNNNNNNNNNNNNNNNNNNNNNNNNNNNNNNNNNNNNNNNNNNNNNNNNNNNNNNNNNNNNNNNNNNNNNNNNNNNNNNNNNNNNNNNNNNNNNNNNNNNNNNNNNNNNNNNNNNNNNNNNNNNNNNNNNNNNNNNNNNNNNNNNNNNNNNNNNNNNNNNNNNNNNNNNNNNNNNNNNNNNNNNNNNNNNNNNNNNNNNNNNNNNNNNNNNNNNNNNNNNNNNNNNNNNNNNNNNNNNNNNNNNNNNNNNNNNNNNNNNNNNNNNNNNNNNNNNNNNNNNNNNNNNNNNNNNNNNNNNNNNNNNNNNNNNNNNNNNNNNNNNNNNNNNNNNNNNNNNNNNNNNNNNNNNNNNNNNNNNNNNNNNNNNNNNNNNNNNNNNNNNNNNNNNNNNNNNNCAUUUAGGAACCCUAGGCUUAUUUAGGCACCCUAGGUCUACUUAGGCACCCUAAGCCCAUUUAGGCACUCUAGGUCAUAUUAGGCACUCUAGACCCAUUUAGGCACCCUAGGUCCACUUAGGCACCCUAGGCCCAUUUAUGCACCCUAGGUCCAUUUAGGCACCCUUGGCCCAUUUAGGCACCCUAGGCCCACUUAGGCACCCUUGGCCCAUUUAGGCACCCUAGGUCCAUUUAGCCACCCUAGGCUCAUUUAGGCACCCCAGGCCCAUUUAGGCACCCUAGGUCCAAUUAGACACCUUAUGCCCAUUUUGGCACCCUAGGUCCACUUAGGCAUUCUAGACCCAUUUAGGCACCCUAGGUCCACUUAGUCACCUUAGGCCCAUUUAGGCACCCUAGGUCCAUUUUGGCAUCCUUAGCCCAUUUAGGUACCCUAGGCCCCCUAGGUCCAUUUAGGCACCUUAGGGUCAUUUAGGCAUCCAUAGGCCCAUUUAGGCUCCCUAGGUCUACUUAGCCACCUUAGGCCCAUUUAGGCACCCUAAGCCCAUUUAGGCACUCUAGGUCAUAUUAGGCACUCUAGACCCAUUUAGGCACCCUAGGUCCACUUAGGCACCCUAGGCCCAUUUAUGCACCCUAGGUCCAUUUAGGUACCCUUGGCCCAUUUAGGCACCCUAGGCCCACUUAGGCACCCUAGGCCCAUUUAGGCACCUAAGGUCCAAUUUGGCACCCUAGGUCCACUUAGGCACCCUAGGCCCAUUUAGGCACCGUAGGUCCAUUUAGGCACCCUUAGCCCAUUUAGGCACCCUAGGCCCAUUUAGGCACCCUAGGCCCAAUUAGGCACCCUAGGUCCAUUUAGGCACCCUAGGUCCACUUAGACACCUUGGCCCAUUUAGGCACCCUAGGUCCACUUAGGCACUCUAGGCCCAUUUAGGCACCCUAGGUCCACUUAGACACGCUAGGCCCAUUUAAGCACCCUAAGCCCACUUAGGCACCCUUGUCCCAUUUAGGAACCCUAGGCUUAUUUAGGCACCCUAGGUCUACUUAGGCACCCUAAGCCCAUUUAGGCACUCUAGGUCAUAUUAGGCACUCUAGACCCAUUUAGGCACCCUAGGUCCACUUAGGCACCCUAGGCCCAUUUAUGCACCCUAGGUCCAUUUAGGCACCCUUGGCCCAUUUAGGCACCCUAGGCCCACUUAGGCACCCUUGGCCCAUUUAGGCACCCUAGGUCCAUUUAGCCACCCUAGGCUCAUUUAGGCACCCCAGGCCCAUUUAGGCACCCUAGGUCCAAUUAGACACCUUAUGCCCAUUUUGGCACCCUAGGUCCACUUAGCAUUCUAGACCCAUUUAGCACCCUAGGUCCACUUAGUCACCUUAGCCCAUUUAGCACCCUAUGUCCAUUUUGGCAUCCUUAGCCCAUUUAGUACCCUAAGGCCCCCUAGUCCAUUUAGCACCUUUAGGGUCAUUUAAGGCAUCCAUAGGCCAUUUAAGCUCCCUAGGUCUANNNNNNNNNNNNNNNNNNNNNNNNNNNNNNNNNNNNNNNNNNNNNNNNNNNNNNNNNNNNNNNNNNNNNNNNNNNNNNNNNNNNNNNNNNNNNNNNNNNNCAGAAAGCGAGGCUAGUUGGGAGCCAGCAAAUGCACUAUGGCAGUUCCAGGAACAGAUUGAGCGGUUCCGGGCAGAAGACACGACGAGGACGUCUGCGGCUUAGGUGGGGGAGAGUGUCACAAGAUGCUUCAAAUGACCCUCCCCAUGGCUUAUAUAGGAGGUGAGAAGCUUCUAGAGACCCUUGGAGACAUCCACACUUAGCCACUAGUGGGAAGAGUGUGGAAGGUUCUAGAAAUGCCUAGAGAAGUCCACACAACUCUACACUAUGGUAGAAGGCAUGAGAAGGGUCCAAAGCUUUCUAGAGAAAUCUAGAAGUCUCUUGAAUAUUCUAGAAUAGUGUAGGACAUUCUAGAAGUCUCUUGAAUAUUCUAGAAUAGUGUAGGACAUUCUAGAAUAUUCAUGAAUUAUAAGGAACCCUCCAAGGUUCUAGAGAGUUCCAUUGGUGCCUAUAAAUAGGUGAGGGCCUCAUUUGGCCAAGGCACCAAGCAAGUGAGCAUCCAAGCACUUGUAAAGGCUUUCUUGAGAUAAUAAAGCUUCCAUUCUUUAAGGAGUUGCCUACUAAGCUCUUAAGCUUUCGAGUCGCGAGUGUCUUAGCCGAGCAAGCUAAGCACUGGGGAUCAAGGCUGACUUAGCAAGAUCAAGCGUCUUGACUUGCCUAAGUGCCGCACGAGCUUAGUGAACGACUAAGUCCGUGACAUUAGGCUCAUUUAGGCACCCAUAAGCCCAUUUUGGCACCCUAGGUCCACUUAGACACCUUAGGCCCAUUUAGGUACCCUAGGCUCAUUUAGGCACCCUUGGUCCAUUUAGGCACCCUAGGCCUACUUAGACACCCUAAGCCCACUUAGACACGCUACGCCCAUUUAGGCACCCUAGGUCCACUUAGGCACCUUAGGCCCACUUAGGCACCCUUGGCCCAUUUAGGCACCCUAGGUCCACUUAGGCACUCUAGGCCUAUUUAGGCACCCUAGGUCCACUUAGGCACCCUAGGCCCAUUUAGGCACCCUAGGUCCACUUAGACACCUUAGGCCCAUUUAGGCACCCUAAUGUCACAAAAUGCUUCAAAUGACCCUCCCCAUGGCUUAUAUAGGAGGUAAGAAGCUUCUAGAGACCCUUGGAGACAUGCACACUUAGCCACUAGUGGGAAGAGUGUGGAAGGUUCUAGAAAUGCCUAGAGAAGUCCACACAACUCUACACUAUGGUAGAAGGCAUGAGAAGGGUCCAAAGUUUUCUAGAGAAAUCUAGAAGUUUCUUGUAUAUAGGCUUGUACAUAGAAUAGUGUACGACAUUCUAGAAUAUUCAUGAAUUGUAAGGAACCCUCCAAGGUUCUAGAAAGUUCCAUUUGUGCCUAUAAAUAGGUGAGGGCCUCAUUUGGCCAAGGCACCAAACAAGUGAGCAUCCAAGCACUUGUAAAGGCUUUCUUGAGUUAAUAAGAGCUUCCAUUCUUUAAGGAGUUGCCUACUAAGCUCUUAAGCUUUCGAGUCGCGAGUGUCUUAGCCGAGCAAGCUAAGCGUUGGGGAUCAAGGCUGACUUAGCAAGAUCAAGCGUCUUGACUUGCCUAAGUGCCGCACAAGCUUAGUGAACGACUAAUUCCGUGACACUAAGCCCACUUAGGCACCCUUUGCCCAUUUAGGCACCCUAGGCUCAUUUAGGCACCCUAGGUCCACUUAGGCACCCUAGGCCCAUUUAGGCACCCUAGGUCCACUUAGGCACCCUAGGCCCAUUUAGGCACCGUAGGUCCAUUUAGGCACCCUUAGCCCAUUUAGGCACCCUAGGCCCAUUUAGGCACCCUAGGCCCAAUUAGGCACCCUAGGUCCAUUUAGGCACCCUAGGUCCACUUAGACACCUUGGCCCAUUUAGGCACCCUAGGUCCACUUAGGCACUCUAGGCCCAUUUAGGCACCCUAGGUCCACUUAGACACGCUAGGCCCAUUUAAGCACCCUAAGCCCACUUAGGCACCCUUGUCCCAUUUAGGAACCCUAGGCUUAUUUAGGCACCCUAGGUCUACUUAGGCACCCUAAGCCCAUUUAGGCACUCUAGGUCAUAUUAGGCACUCUAGACCCAUUUAGGCACCCUAGGUCCACUUAGGCACCCUAGGCCCAUUUAUGCACCCUAGGUCCAUUUAGGCACCCUUGGCCCAUUUAGGCACCCUAGGCCCACUUAGGCACCCUUGGCCCAUUUAGGCACCCUAGGUCCAUUUAGCCACCCUAGGCUCAUUUAGGCACCCCAGGCCCAUUUAGGCACCCCAGGUCCAAUUAGACACGUUGCGCCCAUUUAGGCACCCUAGGUCCACUUAGGCACCAUAGGCCCACUUAGGCACCCUAGGUCCACUUAGGCACCCCAGGUCCAUUUAGGCACCCUUGGCCAAUUUAGGCACCCUACGCCCACUUAGGCACCCUAGGCCCAUUUAGGCACCCAAGGUCCAUUUAGGCACCCUAGGCCCAUUUAGGGACCCUAGGCCCACUUAGACACCUUAGGCCCAUUUAGGUACCCUAAGCCCACUUAGGCACCUGUGGACACCGCAUUUCGUGCUUGAUGCGUUUCCCACUCGAUGGCGAGCUCGAUUUUUAUUUUGAAAAAUUAAUUUUAUUUAUUGUUUGUUUAAAAAAAUGACUUGGAGUCGCCACUUAUUUUUGUUUUAUUUUUAAAGGGUAAACAAAAUAAGAAAGAAAAACCCUAAGUGUGACUCCUUAUUUUGGAAAAGGCGGUCUGUGAAAAACCGGAUCGGGUUCGGGGGUCAGGUUACUUAUCGGGAAGGUACGGUAAAGACCGUAGCACCCCUCUAAGUCCCUAAAAUCGUGUCUCUACUAAUAGAAUAAAGCUGACGUGGCAAUCAAUGAGGAAAUCAGCGGAUACUCAAAUCAAACUUGCACAUAUGAAAAUAAGAGUAUGCAUAGAGAAUAAUCAAAAUGAGAAUGAGUGCGUACCUGGACCUCCAGUGACAAAUGCGCUAUCAUGAAACAGGAUUAGUGAGCAAUGAACAAGAUAUAAUUAAGCGCAUAUCAAGAAAUAGAGUAAACCAAUCAUGCAUGGCAAAUAAAUCAAUCGAUCUGUCAAUCAAUCAUGAAGUCAAGUAUGUGGGGCCCCCACCAAAGCCCGUUUAUUUUGCAUGAAUUAAUUCCAUAAAUUCCAUUAGUCGGAAUUAUGGAAUUUAAUUCUUGCUUAUUUUUAAAACAUUUUAAAAGAUUAUGAAAGAUUUGAAAAUUGCUUACCGAAUAGAAAGUGGAAGCAAAUUUGAUUAAAAGUGAGACUCUUAGGUGAUCCUAAAAAUUCUAAGGAUGAAAGAGUGUGGAAUUGAAAUUAUUGUUUUAUUGAAAAAUGAGGAACUGGGAAAUUAUUAAAAAAAGUGAGAUUUGAAAAAUUGUUGUCAAAGUCAAAGAGGAUAAAAGGGAAGAUGUCACGUGACCAAAGGUGGCCAUGCAACUGAAUGCUCAUAUGCGCGGACCCAAGGAGGUCACUGGGGCUACUUUGUCGGCGCACCAUCCUCUCUUAUAACUGCAAAUAGGCUCGGUAUGAAAGAAACUUGAGACAGGUCUGGUGACUCAGAAUAUGGAUCAGAACCCACAGAACCUUUGAUCACGAUCACCUAGGAUGUAACACGUCCCUCUCUCAAAGCAAAUCUUUGUCCAGCUUCAAGAGGAACAGCAGAUAUCAACUCGAAAAACUACUGUAACAUCAUUCCCGGGCAUAACCAUCUUAACUUCUUCAAGCAAUUGAACCUUCCUAGUGGCAUCUGCAGUCCUCAGGUGGCUUUGAUUUAUCAGAAGAAUUGAAAGCCGAAGAUUUAGGCAUUGGAGGGGUCACAUGCAUUAGUUGCCUAGAUUGCUUAAAUGCCAAUUCCUCAAGCCGAUGUGUGUUAACAGGCAGCUGUGGUGUAGUGCAAGCCCAUGAUGGAGCCCGUGCCAAUGCUUCAGCCAUAUUAAGACCAACUGUAAUACUUGGAAGCCCAGGUGCUGUGGCAGAACGAUAUUUUGUUGAGCAGAUGAGGAUCCAAUGAGCAAAUUCUGAACAGCCAUGUUCAACCCAGGUGACGAAACCCUCCCAAGAUCCAAUUCGGUUCCAAGUGAAGAGAAAUCCUUAUCAAACACAGUCUUGUGGAUGGUUUCUCACAAAGCAAUCUCAUGGUUUACACUUUCUGCUUAUUUAUGAAGUUUGCUAAUCCUUUCCUUUCUUAUCCUCGGGACGACCUUCUUCCGAUCGAGCCUUCCUAUCCUCGGUGUGGCAUUUAUACGACAUAACCCAACUCACCUAUCAACCCAUAUCUGAAUUUGGCUGCGUCUUAGCAAGAUGCUUCACGGCGUCUUUCUCCAGCUGCAGCCACAACGUGUCAGCUGCCUCCACCCAAAACCUGAUAUGCUGAGAAGUUUCCGUCUAUUAUUGGAUUCGGUAUCUGAUUCCUCAGUCGCUUUCAUUCUCUCAAUCCCUUCCAUGCAUGCAUGAGGGUUGGUGUUAUGUGGUGUAAGGAGAGAAACGGGUAUGGGAUGUGAUCAAAUGGGUGUAUGUGUGAGGGUAUGAAAUAUAGGUGUGGAGACGGGUAUUAUAGGCAAAAGAAGUGGCCAUGCACAUGAGAUGAGUGUGAAGCACGGCCACGGGUAGUGAGAGAAAAUGGGUGGUUAUGUGUUAAGUAUGAGUGGUGAUGAAAUGUGUAUGAAGGUUUAAACAAUGGGUUUGGAGGAUGGAGAUAGGAGUGAGUGGAGUGGGUGGUUGGACGAGUAGUAAGGCUUAGAGAGAUGGUAGUGGGUUUGGAAUAGGUGCAGGGGAAGAUAAUGAAUGAAGAUGAAUGAAGAGAGCGUGAGAUAGAAGAUGGAUGUGAUGGACAAGAAGGUGGCCACGUGCCUGGAGCUUCAUGUAUAUGGGUAUGAAAGAGUUUGAAGAGAGAGAAAAGGUGGUAAUAUGGAAUGGGUUUGGUGGGUGCAAGCAUGAGGCAUGAAGAUGAGGGUUAGUAUGGAAGUGUGGGUAUGAUGAGCGAAAGAGAGAGAUGAGAUGAGUGCAUGGUGGUGUAGAAAGAAAGGUGAUCAUACAAAUGGGCAUAGGUAUGGAGGUAUAAUGGGUAUAGGGUCAUGGGUAUGCUAAAUGGGCAAAAAGGGUAUAAGCCCGAAAUUAAUGGAGUAGGUAGUGGGAGAUAAUAGGAAAUGGGUGUUCAUGGGGAUCCUCUGCGUACAUGGUGGGAAAGGAAACAGUGAAGAGUACCCACAGCCAACUGAACUUUCAUUAUUCCUCUCAUUUUAACAUAAGCUUGACCACAAUAUUUCUGAACUCUCUCUUAGGACUCAUACUUCCGAUGGCUAUUUUGUGGUCUACAAUGCCAAUGGUGAUAUUUUCCGUCUUUCAAAGCCGAAAAGAGGUAAGUGACCCUCAUCAAUCGAACAACUCACUUUCUUAUAUAUUCAGGCAACAACUAGAGCAACUCCAGAUCUAUGAAUAGUAUGGGCCCAAGAAUCUGCUUAACAGAAUGCUCCAAAUCUUCAACAAGUGUAAAUCAGUUGGAUACGAUUGCACAUUGUGUUGUAGCGUGAACAACAGAGAUGGCAAAAGGACUUCAUUGUCAUGACCGAAAAAGCGUCAACUUCUUUCUCAUUGACUGGCAUAAUAUCCUCAGUAACAAACUGAUCCAGAUCAAAUAUAAAUGCAGUAUUCCCACAAGAUACAACCGGAACAGGACCUUGCUUCUUUUCCAUCUAAGAUCUUUGCGCAACCCAGAUCAUCUGGAGGAGUUUUGUUCAUCCUCAACACUCACGAGCUAUGAUCUGUGCUAUCACCACCUGGCUCUCUCAAAUAGGGAUGUACAACCUGAUGUAUAACAAGGUAGGAUGCCGAAAACAGGGGAAUGGCAAAACCAAAUAGAAAACAAACCAGUGAAACAAAUAAAACAACCAAAGCCAUGUUUCAUGUUUAGAUCAACAGGUUUGGCUGUAGGUGAGUGAACUAGAAUGCACCUAAAGAGAUAAGAACAAGACAAAACUCCUAUAUGUGGCAUAGCGAAAACUAAAACAGAGCUGAGCCAUUCUCAAAUCAUCAUAAGGAAAAUAGGCAAGAUAGCCGCCAAGGAAAUCCGAGAACCAAGCAGGAACCAUAAGAUAGAACGUAUACCCAAACAAAUCACAGACAAUAUCAAGCAAAAGGAAUGAAACUACAUACUGAUAAAGAAUAUGAAGGAUCCAUGGCAGUCAUACCUCGCUUUUCUUCCCCCUCAAGCUCUCUGUUCUCUCUGGAUAUCUUAGCCAAAACUCCUCCUAGUUUUCCCUCUGAGCUCUCCUCAAGCUCCCAGAAAAACUCUCCCUCAGGCUCCUCCGGAAUCUCUCCUUUUUCUCUCCUCCUCUCUCAAUAUCCAGCUUGCUCCUUGCAAAAUCAGCACCCUCUCUCCAAAAACAUGCUCUGUUUUUCUUAGCUUCUCCCUGGUCCCUGCAUCCCCUAAAAAUCUCCUUUUCUCCUUUUUCUUUUCUCUCGGAUUUGCCCUUCUAACCAUAUCUGCAGAGACAGCCCCCUUCAUGCAGCUGGCAACCUUCCCAUAACAGAAAAAUACGCUCCCCUGAUUCCAGAAGAUUCUUUCCCUUUACAGGUGUCUUCCCCGGAUUAGUCCAUCAAUUCCACUAUUUUGAUCCCAUAUUGACUAAUUCGGGAGUGACACGUGGCCAGAAUGAGCUGCAUGAAAUAGCACCCAAAUAGGGGUCUACAAAUAUGUCCCUCUUUGGUAGAGUUCACGAGUGUAAAGAAUAUGAACACUGGAGUGAAAAGCAAGUGUGAAUAGUGAGUGCAAUGAAGUGAACUCUACUGAAGAACAAAGGAGACCCCCAAAAGGACACCAGUGGAACCCAAACUCACUCAGGCCAACAGAAUGAACAAUGAGGCUCUAAUCCUAAGAGAGAAAAAUGUCACAAAAUGCCUCUGAAGCCACACUAAGGAUCCAAGCUCCCUCUAAGACAUCUCCAAAAGUGACUCGAAGAUCAAUGUCAAAGAUGAGUAACGGUCGAACCACCCUGGAGUACAAUAAAGAAUGUGCCCGAAGGAGACUGCCCUAUGUGAACUAUACGAGAAUGCCAAGUGUAGGGUGCCCAACAACAUGAUCGAAAUAUGCGUCACGGAUCUCAAAAGACUGUGUCAUGUGUAGUGGAAAGGGAAGUCUAAAAGAGCAAUGAUGAAUAGGCGAUAAGCAUCAAGUAACCAGGUGAGGAGAAUGGCUCUGAACGCCUAAAAUGGAAAUGUGAUCCUGAAUGUCAUACUGAAGCAAAGACCUGGACGCCAAACUGACUUGAUAGGAAGAAUGAAUGACCGAUCUAUAUGGGUGCGGUCCCGACUCAAACUAAACACAAUCUGAUAGGGAAAUGACCGAUCGAUAUGGGUGCGGCCCCGACUCAAACUGAACUGAUAAGAAGAUGGCCGAUUUAUAUAGGUGCGGCCCUAGAAACUAAACUGACAUGACAAGGAGAUGGUCGAUCGAUAUAGGUGCGGCCCCGACUCAAACUGACACGAUAAUGACCGAUCGUAUAGGUGCGGUCCCAGAAACUGAACUGACAUGACAAGCAGAUGACCGAUCGAUAUAGGUGCAGUCCCAGAAACUGAACUGACAUGACAAAGAGAUGACCGAUCGAUAUAGGUGCGGUCCCGACUCAAACUGACACGAUAAUGACCGAUCGUAUAGGUGCGGUCCUGGAAACUGAACUAACAUGACAAAGAGAUGGUCGAUCGUAUAGGUGCGGCCUCGACUCAAACUGACACGAUAAUGACCGAUCGUAUAGGUGCGGUCCCAGAAACUGAACUGCCAUGACAAAGAGAUGGUCGAUCGUAUAGGUGCGGCCUCGACUCAAACUGACACGAUGAUGACCGAUCGUAUAGGUGCGGUCCCAAAAACUGAAUUGACAUGACAAAGAGAUGGUCGAUCGUAUAGGUGUGGCCUCGACUCAAACUGGCACGAUAAUGACCGAUCGUAUAGGUGCGGUCCCAGAAACUGAACUAACAUGACAAAGAGAUGGUCGAUCGUAUAGGUGCGGCCCCGACUCAAACUGACACGAUGAUGACCGAUCGUAUAGGUGCGGCCUCGACUCAAACUGACACGAUGAUGACCGAUCGUAUAGGUGCGGUCCUAGAAACUGAACUAUCAUGACAAAGAGAUGGUCGAUCAUAUAGGUGCGGCCCCGACUCAAACUGACACGAUGAUGACCGAUCGUAUAGGUGCGGUCCCAGAAACUGAACUGACAUGACAAAGAGAUGGCUGAUCGUAUAGGUGCGGCCUCGACUCAAACUGGCACGAUAAUGACCGAUCGUAUAGGUGUGGUCCCAGAAACUGAACUGACAUGACAAAGAGAUGGCCGAUCGUAUAGGUGCGGCCCCGACUCAAACUGACACGAUGAUGACCGAUCGUAUAGGUGCGGUCCCAGAAACUGAACUGUCAUGACAAAGAGAUGGUCGAUCGUAUAGGUGCGGCCCCGACUCAAACUGACACGAUGAUGACCGAUCGUAUAGGUGCGGUCCCAGAAACUGAACUGACAUGACAAAGAGAUGGCCGAUCGUAUAGGUGCUGCCCCGACUCAAACUGACACGAUGAUGACCGAUCGUAUAGGUGCGGUCUCAGAAACUGAACUGACAUGACAAAGAUAUGGUCGAUCGUAUAGGUGCGGCCUCGACUCAAACUGACACGAUGAUGACCGAUCGUAUAGGUGCGGUCCCAGAAACUGAACUGUCAUGACAAAGAGAUGGUCGAUCAUAUAGGUACGGUCCCAGAAACUGAACUGACAUGACAGGAAGAUGGCCGAUCGUAUAGGUGCGGUCCCGACUCAAACUGACAUGAUAAUGACCGAUCGAUAUAGGUGCGGUCCCGACUCAAAGUGAACUGAUAAGAAGAUGGCCGAUCGAUAUAGGUGCGGCCCCGACUCAAACUGACACGAUAAUGACCGAUCGUAUAGGUGCGGUCCCAGAAACUGAACUGUCAUGACAAAGAGAUGGCCGAUCGUAUAGGUGCGGCCUCGACUCAAACUGACACGAUAAUGACCGAUCGUAUAGGUGCGGUCCCAGAAACUGAACUGUCAUGACAAAGAGAUGGUCGAUCGUAUAGGUGCGGUCCCAGAAACUGAACUGACAUGACAGGAAGAUGGCCGAUCGUAUAGGUGCGGUCCCGACCCAAACUGACACGAUAAUGACCGAUCGAUAUAGGUGCGGUCCCGACUCGAACUGAACUGAUAAGAAGAUGGCCGAUCGAUAUAGGUGCGGCCCUGACUCAAACUGACACGAUAAUGACCGAUCGUAUAGGUGCGGUCCCAGAAACUGAAUUGACAUGACAAAGAAAUGACUGAUCGUAUAGGUGUGGUCCCGACUCAAACUGACACGAUAAUGACCGAUCGAUAUAGGUGUGGUCCCGACUCGAACUGAACUGAUAAGAAGAUGGCCGAUCGAUAUAGGUGCGGCCCCGACUCAAACUGACACGAUAAGAUGAUGAAUGACCUGAUCAAGUGACCCAAAACCACCACAAUUCUCCAUGCAAUGACGUGUGAAAAACCACCACUCAAGGUGAAACAAGGAUAAUGUCGAGUAAUCAAUGAGGAAAGGAAAAGACAGAGAACGAAUAUCACAAGUGGUGGUAUGUGAUAUCGAAAAAUAGUGAUGAAAUGAUGUCCAAGCGGAAAAUAUCACAGUGAAGAGUGAAGAAUGAGGCUCGAAUAUGUAUGUCAGGUCUAGAACUCAUGACGUAUCCAAACAUAGCAUGCAAGCACUACAGGGUCCCCAACCCGGUGUAAUAAGUAAAUGAGGUGAUGAAAGAAAAAGCUAUGUGCUCGUGUGAGGCUCAAAGGGCUAGCAACGGGUAACUCUAUAUGUGAGGGUGAUAAAGUAAAUAGGCUCAUGAAAUGAUGGCCACCCAUCCUUUGACCAAAACCUCGAACAUCGUGCUUUUGAGAUCUCACAUGGUCAAUACUAAAGACUGGCAUCCAUCCAACAUAGUCAUGACGACUCCUCUGAAAUCGUGCAAAAGGCUCCCACUGAUGCUCUGUGAUGAUCAUCAAUGUCGUCUGAAAAUCAACUCACUCUAUCAUCACAAGCCACUCACCAUCAUCUCAUAAAAUCACCAUGUCUAAUCAUCCCGACUCUCUGAAGUCAUGUGCAAUGGCUCAAAUCUGGAUGCUCCAUGAUAACCUCUCUAUCUCAACAAUAUCGUCAAACAAAUCAAGCCACUCUCUCAUCGUGAUCCAUCUAUCAUCAUGUAAAGCUCACCUCGGGUCUAACCAUCUCGGACUCUACCUGGUCAGAUCCAUGAAAUGAUGGAAAGGAUAGGCAAUGGUACUGUAGCAUGAUAAGGCGAAUCAAGGGUAGUAAAGGUCGUACGAUGGUACCAAGGGAUGGUGUCAUGUCAAGCUCAAAAUGGGUAGGUCAUCAAGUCCACAAAGUCAAGGUACGAAUAUGGAUAUGGUAUCGCUCUAAUCAAAAGGUGAUAUGAGGCACAGUCUCGAACUCCCUAGGUCGAUCUCCUGAUCCUAGGUCAAUAGACUCAAUAUCCUCCAUGAUAGGUCAGGCCAAAGUGAUCGUGAUGUAAGUGAAAGAUGUAUCAUAUUGAAAGUACAACACAUCAUAUGAAAUAUGGUCCCGUGAUGGCAAUCCUAAACUGGAAAUAUGACAGAAACUCUAAGGUCAUAAAGGUGUCCACUAUGAGAUGGCUACAAAUGUGACCAGAGAAUCUCCAUCAAUAAUCCGAGAUAAAGAGAGGUGUGAAAAACACGCUAUCACGAGAUCGGUACUCCAUCUAUAAACAUAUAUCCUUGAAUCAACCUUCAACUCGAGCUCCAUAAGAGAAAAAUAAUAAGGUGAUCAAGGCGAAUCUCUCGAAGACAGUGUGGAUGUGAAAAAUGCGCCUUUCACCUUUCUGUAAUGAAAAUAUGAGCAUCGAGUCGAAAAUUGAACCAAGGAUCAAACAAAUGAUGAGGUACUGAGCCCGUGAUAAGCAUACAGUGUAAAAAGAUGAUCAAUGAACAUAUCCCAAAGCAUCAUGUGAGUGAUAACAAAGUGAAGGGGUGUGUCGAGCCAAGAAAUGAGAAUGAAAACCCUAGGGAGAAAACAUGCUAAACUCGUCAAGUAAAAAGCAUAAUCUAGAGCGACGAGACAAAGGUGAUCCAAUCGAUACUCAAACUCAUACCGAUCUCCGAGCACUCUCAACUGGAGACUAAAAAGAGGGAACACUGGAUCCGAACUGUAACUAAAGAGGCUCUGAAGGCCCUCAGAUGCACCCACGUGUAGGGAGGGAGUCCUAAUCGAAGGAUCUACGGCUCAACCUACGAGAUCAAGGUGGCUCUAAAUGGAUAUGGGUGGACUUUAAAAAAAAUCCCUAGCAGAAGCGAUCAUACCCUCCAGCGGUACACAACCCUCUGCACGCCUAAAAAAAAGACGGGGCGCUUCCAUGCAAGGUGGACAUCGCAUCCACACAUGCACUACCUCGACAUCCUAGGGGGUUUCCUAUGGUGAAUCCUCUCAAACUCUCAACGCUCAAUAGUCAACUAGGGUGCAUAGUGAUCGGUGUGGGUGCAUCCGAAACCCUAAGAAGCUAAAGCAGAAGAUGAAACAUACUGGUCGCAUAAAUAUCCAUGAAACCUAGCUCGGGGCUAUACAGGUCUUCAAUGAUCGGACUCUAAUCGACAACAAUGCGCCGCUCGCCUCCAGAAUGCUCCCAAACAUCAGUAUAGCCCGUCGCUAGACCCUACUCUUAACUUCUAUCUCAGUCAGAGUACAAGCACACACAAGGCCUCACACUUGCAAAAGUGAGAACCGUAAUGAAGAAAGUGACUGAGACUAGAGAGUGAGAGAUAAGGGGAUAGAUGUGCGACCCACAUAAACAAGCGGCACGAAAUCACACAGAUGAGGGCAAUCAUGCAACACACAGUCAAACAAAACUCAGAUAUAUCAUCAAUGUACACACAAGAUAAGCGAGAAUACGACAAUCAGAUGGAUAGUGAUACAAAGACAACACGCUCAAAGAUGAUCAAAAUAAUAUACCAACAAGUGGAUCAGCAUGUCGAGUCGAAUGAUGUACAGUAGUGAGUGUAUGCACGUGAAGUGAUCAAAACAAUCAUGACAAAAUCAGGGUCAAUGUGCUAAGCAAAGCAAUAAGAUCAAUCAUCAAUGAUCCAGCAUGUCAAUGUCUCAAACAAAUAUAUCAAUGCAACACAGAAGAAAUCAUGGCAUCAGAAUCCUCAAUCAAUAUAAAUCAAUCAACACGAUCGACGUGUCAAAGUCUCAAGUGGAUAUAAAAUCCGAGCAUGCAUCAAAUAUCCUCAAUGUGCAAUCAAGAAAUGGGCAUCCACUGAUUGUCCAAUCGAAUGCCACGUUUGCUUCAUUCUAAGUUCAAGUUUGACCCUCUAAAUGAUCCCCAGUGGAGUCGCCAUUUUGUGGACCCCGCAUUUCGUGCUUGAUGCGUUUCCCACUCGAUGGCGAGCUCGAUUUUUAUUUUGAAAAAUUAAUUUUAUUUAUUGUUUGUUGAAAAAAAUGACUUGGAGUCGCCACUUAUUUUUGUUUUAUUUUUAAAGGGUAAACAAAAUAAGAAAGAAAAACCCUAAGUGUGACUCCUUAUUUUGGAAAAGGCGGUCUGUGAAAAACUGGAUCGGGUUCGGGGGUCAGGUUACUUAUUGGGAAGGUACGGUAAAGACCGUAGCACCCCUCUAAGUCCCUAAAAUCGGGUCUCUACUAAUAGAAUGAAGUUGACGUGGCAAUCAAUGAGGAAAUCAGCGGAUACUCAAAUCAAACUUGCACAUAUGAAAAUAAGAGUAUGCAUAGAGAAUAAUCAAAAUGAGAAUGAGUGCGUACCUGGACCUCUAGUGACAAAUGCGCUAUCAUGAAACAGGAUUAGUGAGCAAUGAACAAGAUAUAAUUAAGCGCAUAUCAAGAAAUAGAGUAAACCAAUCAUGCAUGGCAAAUAAAUCAAUCGAUCUGUCAAUCAAUCAUGAAGUCAAGUAUGUGGGGCCCCCACCAAAGCCCGUUUAUUUUGCAUGAAUUAAUUCCAUAAAUUCCAUUAGUCGGAAUUACGGAAUUUAAUUCUUGCUUAUUUUUACAACAUUUUAAAAGAUUAUGAAAGAUUUGAAAAUUGCUUACCGAAUAGAAAGUGGAAGCAAAUUUGAUUAAAAGUGAGACUCUUGGGUGAUCCUAAAAAUUCUAAGGAUGAAAGAGUGUGGAAUUGAAAUUAUUGUUUUAUUGAAAAAUGAGGAACUGGGAAAUUAUUAAAAAAAAUGAGAUUUGAAAAAUUGUUGUCAAAGUCAAAGAGGAUAAAAGGGAAGAUGUCACGUGACCAAAGGUGGCCAUGCAACUGAAUGCUCAUAUGCGCGGACCCAAGGAGGUCACUGGGGCUGCUUUGUCGGCGCACCAUCCUCUCUUAUAACUGCAAAUAGGCUCGGUAUGAAAGAAACUUGAGACAGGUCUGGUGACUCAAAAUAUGGAUCAGAACCCACAGAACCUUUGAUCACGAUCACCUAGGAUGUAACACGUCCCUCUCUCAAAGCAAAUCUUUGUCCAGCUUCAAGAGGAACAACAGAUAUCAACUCGAAAAACUACUGUAACAUCAUUCCCAGGCAUAACCAUCUUAACUUCUUCAAGCAAUUGAACCUUCCCAGUGGCAUCUGUAGUCCUCAGGUGGCUUUGAUUUAUCAGAAGAAUUGAAAGCCGAAGAUUUAGGCAUUGGAGGGGUCACAUGCAUUAGUUGCCUAGAUUGCUUAAAUGCCAAUUCCUCAAGCCGAUGUGUGUUAACAGGCAGCUGUGGUGUAGUGCAAGCCCAUGAUGGAGCCCGUGCCAAUGCUUCAGCCAUAUUAAGACCAACUGUAAUACUUGGAAGCCCAGGUGCCGGGGCAGAACGAUAUUUUGUUGAGCAGAUGAGGAUCCAAUGAGCAAAUUCUGAACAGCCAUGUUCAACCCAGGUGACGAAACCCUCCCAAGAUCCAAUUCGGUUCCAAGUGAAGAGAAAUCCUUAUCAAACACAGUCUUGUGGAUGGUUUCUCACUAAGCAAUCUCAUGGUUUACACUUUCUGCUUAUUUAUGAAGUUUGCUAAUCCUUUCCUUUCUUAUCCUCGAGACGACCUUCUUCCGAUCGAGCCUUCCUAUCCUCGGUGUGGCAUUUAUACGACAUAACCCAACUCACCUAUCAACCCAUAUCUGAAUUUGGCUGCGUCUUAGCAAGAUGCUUCACGGCGUCUUUCUCCAGCUGCAGCCACAACGUGUCAGCUGCCUCCACCCAAAACCUGAUAUGCUGAGAAGUUUCCGUCUAUUAUUGGAUUCGGUAUCUGAUUCCUCAGUCGCUUUCAUUCUCUCAAUCCCUUCCAUGCAUGCAUGAGGGUUGGUGUUAUGUGGUGUAAGGAGAGAAACGGGUAUGGGAUGUGAUCAAAUGGGUGUAUGUGUGAGGGUAUGAAAUAUAGGUGUGGAGACGGGUAUUAUAGGCAAAAGAGGUGGCCAUGCACAUGAGAUGAGUGUGAAGCACGGCCACGGGUAGUGAGAGAAAAUGGGUGGUUAUGUGUUAAGUAUGAGUGGUGAUGAAAUGUGUAUGAAGGUUAGAACAAUGGGUUUGGAGGAUGGAGAUAGGAGUGAGUGGAGUGGGUGGUUGGACGAGUAGUAAGGCUUAGAGAGAUGGUAGUGGGUUUGGAAUAGGUGCAGGGGAAGAUAAUGAAUGAAGAUGAAUGAAGAGAGCGUGAGAUAGAAGAUGGAUGUGAUGGACAAGAAGGUGGCCACGUGCCUGGAGCUUCAUGUAUAUGGGUAUGAAAGAGUUUGAAGAGAGAGAAAAGGUGGUAAUGUGGAAUGGGUUUGGUGGGUGCAAGCAUGGGGCAUGAAGAUGAGGGUUAGUAUGGAAGUGUGGGUAUAAUGAGCGAAUGAGAGAGAUGAGAUGGGUGCAUGGUGGUGUAGAAAGAAAGGUGAUCAUACAAAUGGGCAUAGGUAUGGAGGUAUAAUGGGUAUAGGGUCAUGGGUAUGCUAAAUGGGCAAAAAGGGUAUAAGCCCGGAAUUAAUGGAGUAGGUAGUGGGAGAUAAUAGGAAAUGGGUGUUCAUGGGGAUCCUCUGCGUACAUGGUGGGAAAGGAAACAGUGAAGAGUACCCACAACCAACUGAACUUUCAUUAUUCCUCUCAUUUUAACAUAAGCUUGACCAUAAUAUUUCUAAACUCUCUCUUAGGACUCAUACUUCCGAUGGCUAUUUUGUGGUCUACAAUGCCAAUGGUGAUAUUUUCCGUCUUUCAAAGCCGAAAAGAGAGGUAAGUGACCCUCAUCAAUCGAACAACUCACUUUCUUAUAUAUUCAGGCAACAACUAGAGCAACUCCAGAUCUAUGAAUAGUAUGGGCCCAAGAAUCUGCUUAACAGAAUGCUCCAAAUCUUCAACAAGUGUAAAUCAGUUGGAUACGAUUGCACAUUGUGCUGCAGCGUGAACAACAGAGAUGGCAAAAGGACUUCAUUGUCAUGACCGAAAAAGCGUCAAGUUCUUUCUCAUUGACUGGCAUAAUAUCCUCAGUAACAAACUGAUCCAGAUCAAAUAUAAAUGCAGUAUUCCCACAAGAUACAACCUGAACAGGACCUUGCUUCUUUUCCAUCUAAGAUCUUUGCGCAACCCAGAUCAUCUGGAGGAGUUUUGUUCAUCCUCAACACUCACGAGCUAUGAUCUGUGCUAUCACCACCUGGCUCUCUCAAAUAGGGAUGUACAACCUGAUGUAUAACAAGGUAGGAUGCCGAAAACAGGGGAAUGGCAAAACCAAAUAGAAAACAAACCAGUGAAACAAAUAAAACAACCAAAGCCAUGUUUCAUGUUUAGAUCAACAGGUUUGGUUGUAGGUGAGUGAACUAGAAUGCACCUAAAGAGAUAAGAACAAGACAAAACUCCUAUAUGUGGCAUAGCGAAAACUAAAACAGAGCUGAGCCAUUCUCAAAUCAUCAUAAGGAAAAUAGGCAAGAUAGCCGCCAAGGAAAUCCGAGAACCAAGCAGGAACCAUAAGAUAGAACGUAUACCCAAACAAAUCACAAACAAUAUCAAGCAAAAGGAAUGAAACUACAUACUGAUAAAGAAUAUGAAGGAUCCAUGGCAGUCAUACCUCGCUUUUCUUCCCCCUCAAGCUCUCUGUUCUCUCUGGAUAUCUUAGCCAAAACUCCUCCUAGUUUUCCCUCUGAGCUCUCCUCAAGCUCCCAGAAAAACUCUCCCUCAGGCUCCUCCGGAAUCUCUCCUUUUUCUCUCCUCCUCUCUCAAUAUCCAGCUUGCUCCUUGCAAAAUCUGCACCCUCUCUCCAAAAACAUGCUCUGUUUUUCUUAGCUUCUCCCUGGUCCCUGCAUCCCCUAAAAAUCUCCUUUUCUCCUUUUUCUUUUCUCUCGGAUUUGCCCUUCUAACCAUAUCUGCAGAGACACCCCCCUUCAUGCAGCUGACAACCUUCCCAUAACAGAAAAAUACGUUCCCCUGAUUCCAGAAGAUUCUUUCCCUUUACAGGUGUCUUCCCCGGAUUAGUCCAUCAAUUCCACUAUUUUGAUCCCAUAUUGACUAAUCCGGGAGUGACACGUGGCCAGAAUGAGCUGCAUGAAAUAGCACCCAAAUAGGGGUCUACAGCACCCUUGGCCCAUUUAGGCACUCUAAGCUCAUUUGGGCAUCCUAGGUCCACUUAAGCACCCUAGGCCCAUUUAGGCACCCUUGGUACACUUAGGCACCCUAGGCCCAUUUAGGCACCCUAAGUCCAGUUAGGCACUCUAGACCCAUUUAGGCACCUUAGGCCCACUUAGGCUUUGUUGGCCCAUUUAGGCACCCUAGGUCCACUUAGACACCUUAGGCCCACUUAAGCACCCUAGGCCCUUUUAGGCACCCUAGGUCCAUUUAGGCACCCUUGGCCCAUUUAGGUACCCUCGGCCCACUUAGGCACCCUAGGCCCAUUUAGGCUCCCUAGGUCCAUUUAGGCACCUAAGGCUCAUUUAGGCACUCAUAGGCCCAUUUAGGCACCCUAGGUCCACUUAGACACCUUACGCUCAUUUAGGCACCCGAGGCUCAUUUAGGCACCCUUGGCCCAUUUAGGCACCCUAGGCUCAUUUAGGCACCUUUGGCCCAUUUAGGCACCCUAGGCCCACUUAGACACCCUGAGCCCACUUAGACACCCUUGGCCCAUUUAGGCACCUUAGGUCCACUUAGACUCUCUAGGCCCAUUUCGGCACCCUAGGUCCACUAAGACACGCUAGGCACAUUUAAGCACCUAAGCACCCUAGGCACAUUUACGAACCUAAGGCUCAUUUAGGCACUCAUGGGCCCAUUUAGGCACCCUAGGUCCACUUAGACACGUUAGGCUCAUUUAGGCACCCGAGGCUCAUUUAGGCACCCUUGGCCCAUUUAGGCACCUAGGCUCAUUUAGGCACCUUUGGCCCAUUUAGGCACCCUAGGCCCACUUAGACACCCUGAACCCACUUAGACAUCCUUGGCCCAUUUAGGCACCCUAGGUCCAAUUAGGCUCUCUAGGCCCAUUUCGGCACCCUAUGUCCACUAAGACACGCUAGGAACAUUUAAGCACCCUAAGCCCACUUAGGCACCCUUGGCCCAUUUACGAACCCUAGGCUCAUUUAGGCACCAUAGGUCCACUUAGGUACCCUAGGCCCAUUUAGGCAUUCUAGGUCCAAUUAGGCACUUUAGACCCAUUUGGGCACCCUAGGUCCACUUAGGCACCCUAGGCCCAUUCAGGCACCCUAGGUCCACUCAGGCACCCUAGGCCGAUUUAGGCACCCUUGGUCCACUUAAGCACCCUAGGCCCAUUUUGGCACCCUAGGUCCAGUUAGCCACUCUAGACCCAUUUAGGCACCUUAGGCCCACUUAAGCAUCCUUGGCCAAUUUUGGCACCCUAGGUCCACUUAGGCACUCUAGUCCCAUUUAGGCACCCUAGGUCCACUUAGGCACCCUACGUCCAUUUAGGCACCCUAGGUCCAUUUAGGCACCCUAGGCUCAUUUAGGCACCCUAGGCCCAUUUAGGCACCCUAGGUCCACUUAGACACCUUAGGCCCAUUUAGGCACCCUAGGUCCACUUAGGCACCCUUGGCCCAUUUAGGCACCCUAGGUCCAUUUAGGCACCCUAGGCCCAUUUAGGCACCCUAGGCCCAUUUAGGCACCCUAGGUCCACUUAGGCACCCUAGGUCCACUUAGGCACCCUAGGCCCAUUUAGGCACCGUAGGUCCAUUUAGGCACCCUUAGCCCAUUUAGGCACCCUAGGCCCAAUUAGGCACCCUAGGUCCAUUUAGGCACCCUAGGUCCACUUAGACACCUUAGGCCCAUUUAGGCACCCUAAGCCCACUUAGGCACCCUUGGUCCAUUUAGGCCCCCUAAGCUCAUUUAGGCACCCUAGGUCCACUUAGGCACUCUAGGCCCAUUUAGGCACCCUUGGUCUACUUAGGCACCCUAGGCCCAUUUAGGCACCCUAGGUCCAGUUAGGCACUCUAGACCCAUUUAGGCACCUUAGGCCCACUUAGGCAUCCUUGGCCCAUUUAGGCACCCUAGGUCCACUUAGGCACUCUAGGCCCAUUUAGGCACGCUAGGUCCACUUAGGCACCCGAGGCCCAUUUAGGCACCCUAGGUCCACUUAGACACCUUAGGCCCAUUUAGGCACCCUAAGUCCACUUAGGCACCUUUGGCCCAUUUAGGCACCCUAGGCUCAUUUAGGCACCCUAGGUCCAGUUAGGCACCUCAGGCCCAUUUCAGCACCAUAGGUCCAGUUAGGCACUCUAUACCCAUUUAGGAACUCUAGGUCCACUUAGGCACCCUAGGCUCAUUGAGGCACCCUAGGUCCAUUUAGGCACCCUUGGCCCAUUUAGGCACCCUAGGCCCACUUAGGCACCCUAGGCCCAUUUAGGCACCCUAGGCUCAUUUAGGCACCCUAGGCCCAUUUAGGCACCCUAGGUCCACUUAGACACCAUAGGCCCAUUUAGGCACCCUAGGCUCAUUUAUGCACCCUUGGCCCAUUGAGGCACCCUAGGCCCACUUAGACACCCUAAGCCCACUUAGACACCCUUGGUCCAUUUAGGCACCCUAGGUCCACUUAGGCACCUUAGGCCCACAUAGGCACCCUUGGCCCAUUUAGGUACCCUUGGCCCAUUUAGUUAGGCCCACCUAGUCUCACCUUAGGCCCAUUUAGGCACACUUGGGCCAUUAAGAAAUUUUUAGCGUGACUUAUAUGACUUGCAUGGUUGCAUGGCUUGUGGGGCUCAGUUUUUUUUUUAUUUAUUUAUUUUUAUUUUUAGUUUUAUUUUUAUUUUUAUCAAUCACUUGUUUAUUUUUAUUUGUUAUAUUCCUUUCUAUAUUAUUUUUCUUAGUUUUUUAAUUAACUUAUUUAUUUAUUAUUGUUUUACCGUUUUCUAAUUUAUCUACUCAUUUAUUUAUUCAUUCAAUUAUUUAAUAUAAAAAAAUUUCAUGCUUUUGCAAGGAAACUUACCAUUGAAGUUUAAGGAAAGUGGGACUCUCCUUGGAAGGUUUUGGAGAGGGAGUUUGAAAUUGGGAGGAUUGUUUUUGAAUGGGAAGAUUGGAAAAAGAGGGAAAAAAAAUGGGGAAUUUCUCAGAGCCAUAUAAGGAGUAGACUGCCAUCAUGAGAUAAAGAAAAAGAAAAAAAAAAAAGUUAGAGAUUUUGAUUUUCUGGGGGAUAGAGAGAACAAUAGGAAUUUUUUAGAAGGGUUUUUUUGUUAGAGAUUCAAGCAUAAAGCAUAAUUUUUUUUAAAGAGAGCACACAGAAUUUUGGAAAAAAAGCAAGGGACUUGAGACGGAGAUCGGGCUGCCAUUUAAUCAUCAAGAGAGGAUUUUCUAUUUCACUUCAAAGGUUAGUUUUCUAUAUAGUACUUUUAUUUAGCCUAGACUUUUUUUUGGAAAUUUUAGUUUUUGAUUAAUUCUUUGUGUUAAAGUUUAUAUUAUUUUCUUUUUAAAUCCCCAAUUAGUUUAAUUCCAAUCUAUCUUUUAGUUUAAGUUUGUUAAUGAUUUUAAUUCUUAAGUUUAAAUAAUCAUAUUGAAUAAAGUUUGUAUUUUUAAUCCUGAUUAGUUUGAUUUCAAUUCGUUUUUAGUUUAAAUGUAUUUUGUUGAUCUUAAUUCUUGACUUUAAAUAAUCACGUUAAAUAAAGUUUGUAUUUUUAAUCCCAAUUAGUUUGAUUUCAAUUCGUUUUUUAUUUUAAAUGUGUCUUGUUGAUCUUAAUUCUUUACUUUAAAUAAUCACGUUAAUAAAGUUUGUAUUUUUAAUCCCAAUUAGUUUGAUUUCAAUUCGUUUUUAAUUUAAAUGCAUUAGUUGAUCUUAAUUCUUUACUUUAAAUAAUCACGUUAAAUAAAGUUUGUGUUUUUAAUCUCAAUUAGUUUGAUUUCAAUUCGUUUUUAAUUUAAAUGCAUUAGUUGAUCUUAAUUCUAUGUUUUAAAUAAUCAUGUUAAAUAAAGUUUGUAAUUUUAAUCCCAAUUAGUUUGAUUUCAAUUCGUUUUUUAGUUUAAAUGUAUCUUGUUGAUCUUAAUUCUUUACUUUAAAUAUCACGUUAAUAAAGUUUGUAUUUUUAAUCCCAAUUAGUUUGAUUUCAAUUCGUUUUUUAGUUUAAAUGUAUCUUGUUGAUCUUAAUUCUUUACUUUAAAUAAUCACGUUAAUAAAGUUUGUAUUUUUAAUCCCAAUUAGUUUGAUUUCAAUUUGUUUUUAAUUUAAAUGCAUUAGUUGAUCUUAAUUCCUUGUUUUAAAUAAUCACGUUAAAUAAAUUUGUAUUUUUAAUCCCAUUUAGUUUGAUUUCAAUUCGUUUUUUAGUUUAAAUGCAUUAGUUGAUCUUAAUUCUUAAGUUUAAAUAAGCACGUUAAUAAAGUUUGUGUUUUUAAUCCCAAUUAGUUUGAUUUUAAUUUGUUUUUAGUUUAAAUGCAUUUUGUUGAUCUUAAUUCUUUAGUUUAAAUAAUCAUAUUGAAUAAAGUUUGUGUUUUUAAUUCCAAUUAGUUUGAUAUUAAUUUGUUUUUAGCCUAAAUACAUUCAUUGAUCUUAGUUCUUUAGUUUAAAUAAUCAUAUUGAAUAAAGUUUGCGUUUUUAAUUCCAAUAAUAGAAUUUAAUUUCAAUUUAGUUUGAUUUUAAUUUAUUUUAUAAUUUGAAUGCGUUCAUGAUUUUAAUUGUUUGAUUAACUCUCUUAGACAAAUUCUAUAUAUUUAAUUUCGAUUUUAUUUUAAUUUUACUUUGUUAAUUUAUUUAUUUGUUUAAAAAUAUUUGCAAUUUCAUUUUGAUAGUUUAGCCAAUCUUAUUAGAUGAUGUUAAUGUUUUUAAUUUAAUCUAGUAUCAAUUAUUUUUAGUAUUGAAUGUGUUCGUGCGUUUCUGAAUUCGCCAUUUUGGAUUGUAAUCCAUUUAUAUCCAAUUUUGUAGUUGAUCAUAAUUUUAGUUAAUUAAUUUAGUCAAUCACAUGAUAUUAUACUCACAUUCUAAGUAUGGAAAUUUCAGCUUUGAUUCGUCAAUAUUUAGUAUGAGUUUUUUGGAAUUUUAGUUAAUUACAUGUUACUCUUUUAGUCAAUAUUUUCAAGUUUGCUAAACUUUGGUUUUUGAUUUAUCAUACUUUGCUAGAAUGUUAAUUUACCUUAAUUGAUUCCCUGUUAUUAUCUUUAUAUGCUAAGCUUGUUGACUUUAAUCUUUGGUUGGUUAUUUUUAUUUUAAUUCAUGUGUUUCUUGAAAUCUAGAUGUUAGUCUUGGAUAAUAUUUGUGUUAGUUUGUUUGAUUAGGAAACCAUUAGUUUGUUGCUUUAGUAAUUGUUGGUAAAAUCUUUUUUUUUGAAGGCCAUUGGAAAAUCAUGAAGAUUGGCAUCUACCAUCACCUUUAUCAUUUUUGUUAAUUACUAAAAAAAUUUUACUUUGAGGUUUCAUUUUUUUUUUUUUUUUUGUUUGGUAUUUUAUAUAUUUUAUUUUUUCCAAAUUAAUUCCUUUUAUUUUAAAAUAAAAUACUUUUCUCAAAAAAUCAUUUUAAAAAUCUAUUUCAAAAACUCAUUUAGAGUCCUCAGGAUCAAUUUUUUUUUUUUUAUAUUUAAAAAUAAUGUGCAACCAUAUCUUGUUCUGUUUGCAUCCUUCUCGGUUUUCAACAAAAAGUUUGGUUUUGAACAAAAACACGAAUCAAAGCUUGUGGUCCCAAAUAAAUGGGAUAAUUCUUGGCUAAAUUUGUGUAUAUUAAUUUGGGGAAUUGGUGAAACCCCUACAUAAGAAAAUCUUUUCAAAAAUUAUUUUUGUUGCCAUAUUUGUCACUUGUUGAAAUUAUGUCUAUCUUUUUUAGGAAUUGUAUACAAGAUGUGUGUGAUAAUUAAUGUUUUCAUAUACUUUGAUAAUUUUUGUUAUGCUAAUUAGAUAACAAGCAUGCUAGGGUUUCUUUAUUUUAUUAUUAUCUAAUCCCUCAUGUCUUAUGGAAGUGCAUUGUAAGUUAUCUAUGCUAUCCAGGUACAUCCCCUAUCACCUACUUUCUAAGUUUUGUAAACAUGAUUGUCACUGAGAACUAUGCUUAUGCUUGAGAAUACUUGGGUGUUCCGAUAUACAUGUUUCAUUGUUUGAUUAUUUCUAAUAAAACACAUGUUGGAUGAUAUAUUGUUUAAAUUAACCAUUGAUGUUUUAUGAUAGCGCUUGAGAAGCAGUCCGGGUACACACCCUAACUCUCCUUUAUUGUGAUUUAAUCUUGUUUAGCAUGUAAGUUUUUUGAAAUCACCUAGCCUACUUAGGUAUCUAUAAUUAAUUGAUUAAUUGCCACACUUCCCUUAACUUUGUCAGUAGAGACCUUUGUAGGGCUUAGAGGGGUGCUACCUUUUAAAGGUGCCUUCCCAAUAAGUAACCUGAUCCCCGGACUUAGACUUAGGUUUUUCAAAGACACACUUUUCCAAAAAUUAUGGAGUCAUUUUUUAGGGUUUUAUUUCUUGUUUUAUUUUCCCUUUUAAAAAAAAAUAAUAAGUGGCGACUCCAACUUUUUUUCAAAAAUCAAUUUUUCACAAAUAAAAAGCGAGUCUCGCCGAUUGAGUGGGGGCGCACGUGAAAAAUGCGGGUCCACAUGGAGUAAUUAGAGAUUAUUGCAUCACAUACGUCAAUGAAGUUGUAGGUAUUAGAGGGUAAGUUUUUAGGAUAAAACGACCAGGUAAAUUUGUGUAACUUGAUCUUGUAUAGUGGAUUUUGAUUAGUAGUCUUAGACCUUGUGGUUUUUUUUAUCUCCACAGUAGUGUGGGGAUUUUCCAUGUAAAAGUCAUUGUGUCCAUUGUUAUAUCUUGUGAUUAUCAUGAUUGUGGGGAUUUUGUUUAUCUCUGAUAUUAUCUCACAGGGUAAAAAUUGAGUAUAACAUAUAAUCUUUUUUUUAGAAUUCUUUUAAUUACACCCAUUCACCUCCGUCCUCUCUUUGGGUGUUACCCUACUAGACUUGGCUUUUUCAGUCUCAAAUUCUACAUUAGCAUUUUUUUACUUAAGUUAUAAAUGGAAAAAGUUAUAAACCCAAGAUAACUUGUUAAAAAAGUGAGAAAUAAUAAAGGACUCAUGUUAGAGUAUAAAUAAUUAAUCUAUUCUAGGCUUAAUAUAGCUCCAAUGUCAAACAUGAAUACUUAAUUAUUUAUUAUAUUUUGAAAAUAAAGUAAGUAUUUUUUAUAUAAAAAAUGAAACAACUUUUCUAGAACAACACAAGGCACUAAUGCAUAUAGUUGGUAACAAGUUGGAGAAAGAAAAUAAUGUGGAGAAAUAAAACAACAUGUACAAAGAAACAAAUUGGAGAUAAAGAAAAUGACUAACAAAAAAGAAAAUAGAGAAAUUAUAGAAUAUAAGAUAAUUAAACUUAUUUUCAUAAAAAUAAUAUAUUUUCGAAAAAUAGAAAAUUUCGUUCAUAUUCUCUUUUUCACUUAUUUUAAAAAUAAAAGUAAAAAUUAAUAUUUAUCAAAUGCAAAUAUUAAUAAUUAUGAAAUUAAUAUUUAUCACAUAUAUAAGAUUAAGAUUGAGAUAUAAACUUUUUAUAAUCUAAACUAUUAUUUUCAUUUUAAACAAGAAAGUUCGAUGUGACAUAAUAAAAUUUGUACACAAAAUUUAAAUUAUCUCUAUUCAUAUAGAAUUAUAUAUAGGUAUAGAUUCAUUUCAAAAUUCAAAUAAUUAUUUGAAAUUUACAUUUAAAUUUUAUUUUUAAAUUUAAAACUUAAUUAUUUUGUAAUAGGGUAUGUGUCAUAAAAUUGAAACUUAUAUAUAUAAAUGCGUCCACUUCCAUACCUCUCAUAAAAUUGGAGCCGACUUUUUUUGUUUUCUUUUGUGUGUUUAUAAAUGUCUCCAAUUCCAUAUCUAGCUGUGAUAUAGUUUUGGAGAUGAUUGUGAUUGAAGUAUAAUUUCUUUUAAUUUUAAUUUUAUAAGAAUUAAAAUCAAAGAAACUGUUGGGUAGAAAGAUGUUUCCCUCCAUACAAAUCUAUUUAAAAGAAAAAAAAAACACAAAGAAAGACAACAAUAGAUGAAAAUAAUUAUUCAUCUGUUAUGUUAGUGCAAAAUAUGAAAGAGAAGACAACAGUGUGCAUCUUCACUGUGACUGAGGAUCAAAUUCUCUUUGAGAUUGAUAUAAAUUAUUUAUAACUUCAUUGUUCAUGGAGAGUUGAUUCAGUAGUGUCUUCCAUUUGAAGACAUACAGAAAUGGUUAGAAUUAUCUAUUCAUUUCAAGAGAUAACUUGCAUCUAUGACCCUUAUACUCCCAUGAACUUUGAGCAUCUAUUAUUUAUAAAAUAUGGAUGAAAAUAGAAUAUAAAAAAAAUAUUUUCAUGGGAAGUGUAUUUUGGAAAAAAUAAUUCUCAUUUGAUACAUUGGAAAAGUGUCUACCUCACAUUACCCAAAAAUGUCGUUAUAUGUGUACAUGGGUCAUCAUCCAUAGUAACCCAAUUCACAUGAGGAUGGUACAUCAUUCAACCAAUAAAGGUACUUUAAGCUCAAAACAGUGGUACAUUAUAAUCAAAACAAUAUUACUUUAAUAUCAAAAUACAUGUAAGGACAUUUUAAGGUAAUGUGAGGUAAAUACUACUAUAAUACAUUAAAUAAGAAUUAUUUUCCCAAAAAUGUACUUCCCAUGAAAAUGAUUUAUGUAGGUUUUCUUUCAUUUAUAUUUUAUAAAUAGUGCAUGUUUACAUAAUUCUCUCAUUAAUAUAAUAUAAUCAUCUAUACCUGAUAAUUAAGGAAAUAAAAAAUAUUUACGUACUAAGCAAGGAUAAUUGAAAUUAAAGAGUAUGUCAAAAGAGAAAAAAAAUAUUAAAGAUAAAUUAAAACUCUAAAAUAAAAGCCUUCAUUUGCACAUAUAGGACAAUAUCUUAGGAGGUAUUUUAUUAAAAUAAUAAUAACAAUGAUUAAAAAAUGGAAAAAAUUAUGGGUCCCAUUUUUUAAGUAUUUUCAAUAACAUAAUUAUAAACUUCUUUAAAUUUAAAAUCAUUUAUUUAAACCACUUUAUUCAUUUAGCAACAAGGACUUAAUUAAUCACUAAGAUCAAACACAAUGAUUUAUAAUUUUUAUAAUAUUUUCUUCCAUUACUAUCAUUUUUUUGUUAAUAAAAUGAAGACUUCUAUUGAUGAAUUUUUAAUAAUAAAAUGUAACUUCUUUUAAAUUAAAACCAUUUAUUAUUAAAAAAAUUUAAUUCAUCUAGGAGAUUCUUUUAACUAAUUCUUUUAGAAUUUUUUACAUUUUUUUAUUUCAUAUUUAAAGAUAAAAAAUUAUUAUGAAAUAAUUUUCUUCAUUAUAAAAUUUAUCUUUCGUUUCUAAAUCAGAAUUUUUGUCAUGUCCAUUCAUAUAAUAAAAUUAAAAUUAUAAAUAAUAAAAAAACCUAUUUUAAUUGACAGCGUCAUGGAAUCUCUCCAUGCACACCUCUUAAACCAAGUGAGCUAUGAAUGCAUGUAAGAUGUAUAUAUAACUAUAAAUAAGGAUUCAAAAUGAGGGGAAAAAUCAUUGAGAAGGGUGAACCAUGGGUGAUAAGCCACUUUCCUUUGGAUAAAUAUUAAAAGUUAAAGAGUAUAAAAUGUCUAUGUAUGUCGUCAUUUUUUUUUUCACUUUUAAGUUAAAUAUAUUUUUAUUGUUAUAAAUGAAGUAAUGAAUGCCACCACAUUUAUUAUAUGAAAUGUUCAUUAAAAGCCUAUAAAAAUGUUUCCUAUCCCCUGUAAAAUGCAUCCCAAGCAAAGAAAUAAAUUUUCUUUCUCUCUUAUUCUUUUUUAUUUUUUUAUUUUUAUUCUCCAUAUCUUUCAUUCUUUCAAUUGUCCUAAUUAUCUUUUAUGAUUCCUUCCUCUCCAUUAUAUAUUAUUAUCAAAAUAAUAUAUAGUUGUUCUUUACUUUUAUUUGUGUUGCAUUUAUCCUCUUUUUACAACACAUAAUUAGCAUGAAUUGCUCUAAAGGUAAUUCUCAUAUCUUAAAUUUGAAGUUAUUUAUAUAGAAUAAAAUUUUACAUAUUUAUAUUGGUAUUGUUAAAUUCAUUUAAUUUGUGUUAUAUAUUAUUAAAAUCUAUAAGCAAAUUAUUUGAUUUUGAUUAUAAUCAAAAGUUAUACCAAUGCUAUUAAUUUAUAACUAAUUCUAGUAAUAUUGUUUUGUCAUAUAUCUAAAGUUAUUUAACAAUGUCAAAUCUCACAAAACUCAAAUUUGUGGCACUUGACAUUUUAGGAAAGAACUAUAUAUCUUGGAUCCUUAAUGCUGAAAUACAUCUUGAUGCAAUGAAUCUUGGAGCUACAAUUAAAGAAGGAAAUCAGGCUUCCUUGUAGGAUCAUGCAAAAGCGUUGAUUUUCCUUCACCAUCAUCUCUAUAAAGGUUUUAAAAAUGAGUAUCUUAUAGUAAAGGACACUUUUACGCUAUUGAGUAAUUUGAAGGAAAGAUAUGACCACUAAAAAAUUGUGAUUAUCCCAAAAGCUUGAUAUGAUUGGAUGCAUUUAAGGUUGUAGGAUUUUAAAACUAUUAGUGAAUAUAACUCUGCACUUUUCAAAAUCAACUCUCAAUUAAAGCUAUGUGGAGAAAAAAAUCAUAGAAGAUGACUAUUAGAAAAAACUUUACUACAUUUCAUGCCUCGAAUGUGCUCUUACAACAAUAAUACCAAGAGUGUAGAUUUACAAAAUACUCUGAAUUAAUAUCAUGUCUUCUUGUUGCUGAACAAAAUAAUGAGCUUUUGAUGAGAAAUCACUAGUCUCAUCCAAUUGGAUCUGAACCAUUCCCUGAAGUGAAUGCAAUAUUGUCCCAAACUCGUGGACAUGGGUGAGGACAAGGAAAUGGUUGUGGUCACGGAAGGAAUCUCCGAUAUAAUGGUUAUUAUGGUAAUAAUUCCUCAAAUUCUCAUAAAAUGAAAGCUUUAUUGCACCACUAGAAAUGGAAUAAUACUGAGGCAAAACAAGAAAAUGGGAAGUGUUUACAAGAUUAACCUCCAAAUAACCAUGAGAAUAAUUGUUAUAAAUGUGGUAUGAAGGGCCAUUGGUUGUGUACCUAUCAUACACUCAUACAUUUGGUCAACCUUUACCAAGCAUCAAUAUAAGUAAAAGGAAAAGAGAUAGAGAUGAAUUUUACCAAUGGUGAUGGAUUGAACCUAACCUACUAUGACAUCGAUUUCUUUGGAGGUCCUAGUGAAAAAAUAGACCAUUUAAUAAAUGAUGAGAAUGCUAACAUUGAUGGGUGUUACUUUAUAUAUCAAAUAAUAUAUUAUUAUGUGUUAUAUUUAUAUCUGAUUAUUACAUUUUCUUUUAUAUUGUUAUUUUAUUAUGCCUUGUUUUUUUAAUAUUAGUUGUAUCUAAAAUCCACGUGUUAUUUGGUCUCAAGAUGAAUGAAGAUGAUGUAUGUUUCACAAAUUGUGAAACCACGCACACAAUUCUUCGAGAUAAAAGAUAUUUCAUUGAAUUGACAUUGAUAAAAGCUAAUGUAAGUACCAUAUUUAGUACUACAAGCUUAGUUGAAGGCUUUGGAAGAGGAAACAUAAUGCUACUAAAUGGAACUAGAUUUCAUAUAAAUGAUGCUUUAUAUUCUAACAAAUCUAGAAGAAAUUUGCUCAGUUUUAAAGAUAUCCACAAAAAUGUAUAUCAUAUUGAAAUUUUGAAUGACUUCCAUUAUAUCUGGCCAAAAGCUUAUGAUAGAAAAACUCUCGACUUUUUCCUCUAGGUUGUAUCAUACAACUAUAAAGCAUAUUGAAUCAUAUUUUGUCAUGAACCAGAAGUUCAACGGCCCAAAAUUUUUUGUCCUUUGGCAUGUGAGACUAGGUCACCCAGGUUUUCAAUGAUGCGUCAAAUAAUCGAACACUCACAUGGGCAUCCACUAAAAAACCAGAAAAUUCUUUUGCAAAAUGAAUACUCAUGUGCUACUUGCUCACAAGGUAAAUUGAUAGUCAAACCAUUUUUUACUAAAGUCAUAUUUGAGUCACGAGUUUUUAAAAAGAAUACAUGAGAACAUAUGUGGGCCUAUCCAUCCACCAUGUGAACCAAUUCGUUAUUUUAUGAUCUUAAUAGAUACUUCUACUAGCUGGUUACAUGUUUGUCUCAUUUUUACAAGUAAUGUUGCCUUUGCUAACUCCUUUCACAAAUGAUCAAAUUAUGAGCACAAUUCCAAGAUUAUCUAAUUAAGAUAAUACAUCUUAAUAAUGUUGGCGAAUUUACUUCUCAAACAUUCAUUGACUACUGUCUAUUGGUAGGGAUAAAUAUUGAGCAUCCUAUUGCUCAUACUCAUACCCAAAAUGGUUUAGUAGAAUUCUUCAUCAAAUGUCUCUAAUUAAUAGCUCGACCAUUACAAAUGAAAACCAAAUUACCUAUUUCUACCUGGGGACAUGUUAUUAUGCAUGCUGCAACUUUAGAUUGUAUUCAACAUAUAGCUUGCCAUGAAUAAUUCCCUCCACAACUCAUACUUGGAAAACAACUAAAUAUCUCUCACUUAUGAAUCUUUGGUUGUGCAGUAUAUGUACCAAUUGCACCUAUGCAAUGGACUAAAAUGGGUCCCCAAUGAAGACUCGGGAUUUAUUUAGGUUUUAAUUCUCCAUCUAUCAUAAGAUAUUGUUAGAAAAAUUAGGCUAAUCCAACCUAAGGUAAUUACCCUAGAAGGAAAAGGAGAGGAUGAAUAGAGUGAUGGUAUUUUUUUUUAAAAAAAAAUUAAAUUAUAUGAAUACAAGAGACAAUUAUAUGCAAAUAUAUAAUAAAACAAUAUAAAGAUAGAUGCAUAUAAAGAUCUUAUCUUGAUCCUUAUACAAAUGAAUAUGAACUAGAAGUUCAAAGGAACAUUUAUUUGCAAAAUCUUGCAAACAUAUUACUAGAUGCAUUCAUUGAUACAAAGAAAGUGACAAAGUCACAUAUCUUGGCUACAAAUACUCCAACAUGGAUUGAUGUCCCUGUAGGACAGUUAACAAAUGAACCUAAGAUAUGCUUGAAGCGUAGUAAACCUGUCGACUCAAAUGAUGUAACUCCCUAGAAGAGGAGAACACAAGAAAAACUUGGCACUUUAGAAGAGUCGUUAAAAUGACUAAUCAGUCUAAAAUUGAUAAAUCUAUAGCCCCAAAAGAGGCACAAAUAAUGCAAAAAGCCCAUGAAGAGGCACUUAUUGAACAAGAAGCCCUUGAAGAGGCACAUAUUGAACAAGAAGCCCCUGAAAAGGCACAUCUACCUGAAAAUUGUGAAAUAUUAGUAAGUUAUGUACACAUGGGAAAAAAAUGGGAUCCAAAUAAUAUUGCUAUCAACAAUACUUUUACUUUUCAAGUGGCCUAUGAUAUCAUAAGAAAUUAAUAAGAUCCCGAAUAACAAAAUAUGGAAGAAUGCCGACAUAGAAAUGAUUGGCCAAAAUGGAAAGAAGCUAUGUAAGCAAAGUUAAACUUAUUAACAAAAUGAGAAGUUUUUGGACCUGUACUCUAAACACUUGAAGAUGCAAAGUUUGUUGGGUAAAAAUGGGUAUUUGUACAAAAGUGAAAUGAGAAUAAUGAAAUCAUAAGAUAUAAAGCGUGAUUAGUAGCACAAGGUUUCUUUUAGAGACCAAGUAUUGACUACGAGGAAACAUACUCUCCUGACAUGGACAUAAUCACAUUUCGUUUCUUAAUUAGUUUGGUAAUCUCAUAAGGAUUGGAUAUGAUCCUCAUGGAUGUUAUUACAACAUAUUUAUAUAGAUCCAUAGAUAAUGAUAUAUACAUGAAAAUCCCUGAAGAAUUUAAACUGCCUCAAACAAAUAAUACAAAGACUUGUAACAUUUACUCAAUCAAGUUACAAUGAUCCUUGUAUGGAUUAAAGUAAGCGGGAUACAUGUGGUACAAUCGCCUUAGAAAAUACUUCCUAAAAGAAGGGUAUGUGAAUAACCCUAUAUGUCCAUGCAUCUUCAUUAAGAAAUCAAAAACUGGAUAUGCAAUUAUUGCAGUGUAUGUUGAUGACAUAAAUCUUGUUGGAACUCCUGAAGAGCUCAUAAGAACAAAAAAUUACUUAAAAAAGGAAUUUGAGAUGAAGGAUCUUGGAAAAACAAAAUUUUCUAUUGGUUUACAAAUCAAGCAUUUUCCAAAUGGAGUUUAGUACAUCAAUCAACAUACAUUAAGAAAAUUUUGAAGCAUUUUUAUAUGGGUAAAGCGCAUCUUUUAGCCUUUCCAAUAGUUGUUUGAUCACUUGAUGUGAAAAAGAACCCAUUUCAGUCUUGCAAAAAAUGUGAAGAAUUAGUUGGUUCUAAAGUACCAUAUAUUAGUGCUGGGUGCACUUAUAUAUCUUUCCAAUUGUACAUGUCUAAACAUUGUUUUUUCUAUCAAUUUAUCAGCAAGAUAAAGUUCCACUCCAACUCAAAGACAUUGAAAUGGUAUCAAACAUAUAUUGCACUAUCUUUGCGGAGCUACUGAUGUGAGUCUAUUUUACUCAAAGGAAUCAAGCAACAAUUGCUUGGAUAUGUAGAUGCAGGAUACCUUUCAUAUCCACAUAAAGAUAGGUCAUAAACAGGGUAUAUGUUUAAUUGCAAUGGUACUGCUAUUUCAUGGAGAUUUGUUAAACAAACAAUGAUGUCACAUUAUCAAAUCAUUCAAAAAUACUUGCAAUUCAUGAAGCAAGUUAUGAAUGUGUUUGACUAAGAUCUAUGAUUCAACAUAUUCGAUAACCAUAUGGACUUUUCUCUAUCAAAAGUGGCACGACAAUAUUAUUUGAAGAUGAUGUUGCAUACAUUGCACAAAUAACAGGGGGUCAUAUUAAAAGAGAUAGAACUAAACACAUUUCAUCAAAAUUAUUUUAUACACAUGAACACCAGAAAAGUGGUGAAAUUGGUGUGCAACAAAUAUGCUCAAGUGAUAAUCUAGCAAAUUUAUUCACAAAGUCAUUGCCAACCUCAACAUUAAAGAAGUCAAUACACAAGAUUGGAAUGCAUCAACUCAUAUCAACAUGAGGGAGAGUUUGCUUGUAAAAGGGUGUUAGUGUACUGUACUUUUUUUCCCUUUGUCCAGAUUUUGUCCUUUUGGGUUUUACUAGCAAGGUUUUUAAUGAGACAGUCCUAACAUAUCAAGAGCAACUUAAAGAAUUAUCACAAUAUUGUACUGUUUUUCCUUCGCUAGGUUUUCCUAUAGGGUUUUUUACUAGCAAGGUUUUAAUGAGACAUAUUCUUCUAAUGUGGUUGACAUUCAAGGAAAAGUGUUUAAACAAAGUAAUGAAUACCACCACAUUUAUUAUAUUAAAUAUUCAUUAAUAUUAUUUAUGACUUCCAUUAAUAUUCAUUAAUGGAAGCCAUUUGGAAAGCCUAUAAAACAACUUCCCAUCCCCUGUAAGAUGCAUCCUAAGGAAAGAAAUAAAUUCUCUCGCUCUUAUUCUCUAUGUCUUUCAUUCUUUCAACUCUGUUAAUUCUCUUUUCUGAUUCUUUCAUUCCCAUUAUAUAUUAUUAUUAAAAUAAUAUAAAGUUGUUAUAUACUUUUAUUUACGUUGCAUUUAUCCUUGUUUUACAACACUUAGUUUUUUCUUUUCUCUAUUUUAUUUUAUUUUUUUCUCUUCUAGUUAUUAUAAUUAUAAUAAUAAUUAUUAUUGUUAUUUUAUAAACAUAAUAUAACCUAUCAAAAAAUAAUAAUAAUAACAUAUUUAUAAAUAAUAUAAUAAUUAAUUUACAAAUUAUUGUUUCAUUUGUUAUUAUUAUUAUUGUUAUUAUUAUUUCAAUUUUUUUUAAAUAUCAUAUAUAACUUAUACAAUAUGAAUAAUAAUAAAAUAAUUUUACAAAUAUUGUUUCAUUCAUGUUUUGAAGACAAAGUUUUCUUAUAUAAACUUUCAUAAAUUUUCAAUUGUUUUUUACAAUAUGAUUAUUAAGAAAAUAUUACAAUAAAAAAUUAGUAUUGAUAAUUAUGAAAAAACAAAAUUAAAGCAUGUGUUAUCGUACUUUUAGUGUACUUAUAUUUUAAUUUCAAUGCAUAACUAUGACACAUACAUUUUGUCACAAACUUAAUAGUGUUAGAAGCAUUGUCUUAUCCUAGUAUAUUGAUUUCUAUAUUAUUAAGGCAUCCCAAUGAAUUAGCAUCAUAUACUAGAUGCAUUCUUAUUAGCAAUAAUUCUUAUAAUGAAACUCAUACACCUUAUAAAAAAAAUGUCUUAUAAGGUUAAUUUAUAGUAGAUGAAAUGUUAAAAAAUAUACAAAAUAUAUGACAAUCAUUUAUCAAUGCUUGUUUAAAAGGAAAAAUUUUAAAAUAAAGUUAGGUUAUGCAGUAAUGUAUAAGACAUUUAAAGUAUUCAUGUUGUAAGAUCAUUAUAUUUUUGUGGUACGAAUACGUUGGCUUUUAUAUUAAUACAUAAUAUCGGUGUACUAGCAUUAUACAUUUAAUGAAUCAUUAUUAUGCAUGAUUUUUAUAAUAAAGCCUAUAAGUUUUAAGAAUUAGGUGAAAGAAAGAUCAUAUUCUAAGAUUGGUUUAUAAUCAAUGACAUUAUAAUAAUAAAAAAUAUGAAUAAUGACACAUAUGAAAUAUUAAUAAUGUAAAACUAAUAUCAUAAAUAAUAAUAUUAAUAAUGAUGAUAAUAAUAAAUAUAUAAUUAUAAUUUUUUUUAAUAAAUAGUAUAGUUAGUCUUAACAUAUAGUAAAUAAAGCACAAAAGGUAGAAAAGAAAAGUAGAAAAGUAAAGUUAUAUGGGAGUAGGAGGAAAAGACAAAAUGAUGUAAUUGGAAUUAUGGAAUGAUCAAGUUAUCAAACUAUAACUUGUGAAUUUGACAAGACUUUGAGACUUGGUGACCCUUAAGGGAGAGCUUAUCAUCACUUCGAGCUAGGUGACCAUUUUUUAAAAAAUUUCAAAAAUAAAGCCCAUGAAAAAUUUAUUUAUUAAGAAUAAUAACAAUUUUGUAUUUUUUUAUAUACAAAUUAGAUAUUUAAUUUAUUAGAAUCAUUUUGAUGGUAAUGACAAACAAAAUAACUCCUUAAAUAGGUGAAAUAAUUCAUUUUCUCAAAUUUAUAUGCAAAAUUAUUUUAAAACAAAAGGGAUGAUACAUUAUUUUUGUUCAACAAUCCACAUUUUGACUUUCAUUUUAAAAUCCAUCUAUAAAAAUCUCUCUUUAUAUAUAUCUGCCUAGAUUGCCUGAUCAUCUAUUCAUUCAUUGUCUAUAACUUCUUGCCUGAUUAUCAAUUUAGAUGUUCAUAUUUGCAUAUAUUUAUUCAUUCCACCAUGUAUUUUGUUGCUUAUUUGUAAUGUUUACAAUUUUGAUGAAAUGUUUGAUUAUUUGAAAACCGAAUUUCCCCAAACCCACUAAUAAAAAGCAACUAAAAGUCUGACCAAUCUAGAGGGGUGUUCUUGGCCGGUGGCCAUCCUGAUAAGUCACCUUAGCCGUAGACUAGAUUUAGAUUUUGCAAUUAGUACCUUUCUUUUCCUUCUAGGAAUCACUAUCAUCUUGACCAAUCUAGCCAUGUACCAAAAAGUCAAUUUUGCCAAGUUUAAAAAGUUUGCUUUAAGCCUGUUCAUCAUAGUUGACAGAAGUUAGAAUUACAAUGAAAUAUCUAGGAGAAAAUGUCCGCAGGAGCAGAGAGAGAGAGAGUGAAGGCAAUACAUUCAGUCAUGAAUUUGAUGCAAAUCCCAACGUACAUAAUUGUAUCGAAUACUCUCACCAUGAUUGUCGAUCUAUCGGAUCAGACGAUUACUAUGUUUGCCAAAAAUGCCUGGGCCGUAUGUGGAAUAAAUCAAUUCCACAAGGAAGGGAAACUGCAAAAUUCCGUACAAGGUCACUGGCAAACAGACUAAUGCUGCCAAGGUAAUAAGAAUCCAUGCCUUCUUUUCACCAAAGAGAAGAUAGAUUGCGCUACUGUAGGCUAUCAUCAUGAAUGUUACGGAGAGGAAUAGAGUAACAAGGCCAAAUAUCAACCUCCUGGGAAGGGCAAAAAGAAAAUCAUCUUCUGCAUAUCGUGCCGUGAGAAUGGAUAGGCAUAUCAGCACCGAAGCAAUGGAUAGUAAGAGGGAAAGAGCAUCGGAAGCUGCAAAAACUUUGAAGGCCUUUUCUUUGGUGAAAUUUGGUAUGCCAGUAUCAUCAUGGUUGCCACCCGGGAUGGUAAUUGCUGCUGCAAACACUACAGUAGCAAUAAGCGCUGCUGCUAAUGUGUAACAUUUUGCUGUGCCUUUCAUCCAUUUCUCCCUUUCUUUUAUCAAUUUUUCAUGUUCCUUUAUAAAUGCCAUUUUCGGUUUAUCUUUUUUUUCAUUUCUCAGAUUCACUGAAGGCUCUCGGGGCAUAUUUUUCAAUUUCCUUUGUAAAAAUCAAAAUGUUUCUAAGAUACAGAAAAAGAGUGGAUAUGUAUAAGAAAAUUAAUUCCCCUUCAAAACAAAAAUUAUUACCUUAAACCAAUGUAACUCGCGUUGCAUUUGUAGAGCUGCACCAGAAACGAGACUGAGCCGGUGCGGAGGGGCCAAUUUUCCAACCAAAUGCAAGAUGUUAUUUAAAUCAUCUUUGGCUCGUAUUAUAAGUUCUCUAUGCAUAUCGGUUCCACAGAUGAGGUUGAAAAUCUUUUCAUAACGAUUUAAUACUGCCAAUUUGAAUACAUCCUCAUCCAGAUACUCGAGGGCAAAAGGAUAUGACUUCAUAAUCUCUUGCAGAAUCUCGGGAAUCCCAUAUUUUGCCCCAGUAAUGAAGGCUAGUUUAAAUAUUUCCUGUGCUCUUGAUGCUUUCAAAACUUCAGUACAUAGGUGGUUAAGCAAUUGAAGAGUCAGAGAAUGCAUUGUUUUUGUUUCUUGGAUGUGCUUGAUGGGUGGUACUGCAAUUAAAAUUAUAUUAAGGACAACAUAACAUUGCAUUCAAAACUUUUGCAUGCUUUAGUGGUAGUUUUGUUGUGUUCCUUACCUAACCAUCCAACCAGUUCCCAGAACAUUGCAUUCACCUUUCGGCAAGUUGUGUGCAAUGAAAAUUGAAGCAGUUCAGAUGCAAAAGCAGGACUAACAGAAGAAAAAACAAAAAAGCAACCCUGAAUCAAGUACCAAUUAAACACUAAUCUAUCAGAGCUUUUUGGGAUUCAAUAGGUUUCAUAUACUUCCCUUAAACCGUCGCACUUGAAUUUAAAGGCUAGAAUCAAGAAGCCUAAUGAAACUUGGUACAAGCUCAAUUACUCGACUUCUUAUUAAUUAACCAGGAGCAUCAGGUGACAAGAUAUUCAUAAAAUCUAUCAGAGCAAUGAAAAUUGUGUAUCCUACAUAAUUCUUUGAGUAGUAGAGUAUUAUCCAUUGGAAUUUGAUUGUAGAGCUGAUUUCAAAUCCAUUACUUGAACUUAAAAGGAAAAAAAUGAACACAAUUUUGUGAGGACAAAUUAAAAUUGUGAGGAUCUCAAAUUCAACAAGUUAGCAUUUCUCUACCAGGUGCAAUUUGGCAAAUUGGUUUGACCUAACUUGAAUAUCGGAGAAGUUGAGAAACCAUUUUUAGUACUCAAGUUAGAAUUUGGUCAAGCUUCUCAACCAAAAGUUAAUUUGGGUUGAGCUCAAUUUUGGGCUGAGUUCAAACCAAUGCUUCAACAAUCUAAGUUGAAUUAAACUCCAUUAAUAUUUUAUAAUAUUUAUAGAAUAUAUUACUAUAUAAUAAUAUCAAUUUUUUUUUCUAAAAUAAUUUUAAGGGAAAAACCAUCAAAAUAUAUUAAGCCAACUCUCAGAAAUUUGCCUACCCCCUUGUGAACACUAUUUGGAAGGAAAAUUAAUUAGGAAGCCUCUUAAGCAAGCCAGAAAGGUAUUUGGUCCUCUGUAGCCUAUGCAUUCCAUAGUACAGGGCCUAAUGAACAUGAGAGCAAAGCAUGGUGCCUACUACUUCAUCACAUUUACGGAUGGUUAUAUCUACAAGUCCAAAUAAUUGCUUUGAUUUAGAUGUUAUAUGAAUAUUGUAAAAAAAUGAAAAGAAAAAACUAUUACAACAUUAAGGAUAAAUCAUGGACAUGAGUAUCCAUUGAAGAGUUUUAAAAAUCUCUAUGAUGAAAAGCAAAUCCAAAGAACAAUCAAUAGCUUCAAGGACUCCACAGUAAAAUGGUUGAACUGAAAAUAGUAACCAUAAACUUUUGGAUAUGGUUCACUCAAAAAGGCACAAGCCAACUAUCUAACAUCUUUCAAGGUGGGAAAGGAGGGUUACUAUUUUGAUUGCAACUUAAAUCUUGAGUGAAGUGCCCUCAAAAUCAAUUACUUCAAAUCCAUAUAGUUAAGAAGUCAAACCUAACUCACUUGUGAUCCUAAGGGUUAGUAGGUUUAGUUCAUGUAAAUUCUCAUAGAUAUUGUGCUAUAAAGGAAACAAGUGCACUUUCAUUCAUUAGAUAUUCUAAGAAAUCAAAGGUUGUGUGAUGCUUAGUGAACAACUCAAUGGGAGUAUAAUUGAAAUAAAGUCAGAUGAAAUCACUUUCUUAUAGGAUGAUAUUUUGAGCAGAGGAGCAUUGAACAGGAGUCUCAAUUUAUUUGAGGCAAUUAAACCAAAGGAAAAUACUAUGAUAUCUCAUAUCGAACAGGGGAAAAAGUUCUUGACAUUAUAUAUAUAUAUAUAUAUAUAUAUAUAUAUAUAUAUUAGCUUCUCUUAAUUAUUUAGACACAUUUUAAUGUUGUGAGGGUGUAGACCCUCAAUUUUGUCCCUUUAACACAUGUCUUUAAAUCCGUUUUCAAUGCUCCGUAAUAGUUCCUUGGUGGCCCAUAGCUACUCAUACCACUUACCUUUUUUUUGAGUCACCUUGGAGACUUUGGUUGAGGGAUUAUUUGAUCCCUUAUUGUGACCCUUGGCAACCCUAACUUAGACUUAGGCUUUUCUUGUUUUUUUUUUAGGAUAGCUUUUAGAUACACUUGGCCCAUUAGGCACCACCCUAGGCCCACUUAGUCUCACCUUAGGCCCGUUUAGGCACACUAGGCCUACGAAGACUUUUAUUUUAUUUUAUUUAUUUAUUUAUUUAUUUUGUUUUAGUUUUAAUUUUAUGAUUAUCAUUCACUUUUUAUUGGUUAUCUUCCUCUUUAUAUUAUUUUCCUUAACUUAUUUAUUUAUUUAUUAUUUUUACCAUUUUCUAAUUUAUUUACUUAUUUAUCUAUUCAUGCAAUUAUUUAACUUAAAAAAUUUCAUGUUUUUGCAAGGAAACUUACCAUUGGAGUUUAAGGAAGGCGGGACCCUCCUUGGAAGGUUUUGGAGGGGAAUUUGAAAUUGGGAAGAUUGCUUUUGAUUGGAAGAUUUAAAAAAAGAGAAGAGAAGAAGAAAGGAAAUAGGAGAAUUCUCCUUUUUGGAAACAAAUUUAGGUCUUGAGGAGUGAUAUAUAAAGAGAAAAAAGGAAAAGAAGAGAAAGAGGGGGCAGCACGCAUUGGAGGAGAUUGGUUUUAGAGAAGAAGAAGGAAGAUAGCAAAAAAAGAGAUUUUUUAAGAAAACUUUCAGCACGCAUUGAGAACGGAGGGGAAUUGGAAAAGAGAAGCAAUCUUUGCCUCUUUAAGAGAAGUUCUAAGGUAAGUUUUCGGAGGAUUCUUUUUAUUUUUAUUUUUCUGGCUUAUAUCCCUAAUCUAUGUUCUUCAUUCUCUCAUUUUAUGAUUUGGGACACUGUUUGCUUGGUGGGUUGAAGAUGUAAGAAACUUCAUGCGAACUUUAUUGAUUUCUGGUUCUUGUUUAUGCUUACUGAUAUGGUUUCAUUCCUCGCUAUUCUUUUUCUUUUUUUUUAUUAUUAUUUUCUAUCAUAUGAACUCAGUGAGACUCUGUUUUAUGGAAUAUUAUUUGAUGAUAUUGGUUGCCCUGUUUCUCUUUUACUCCUCCCACUAAUCCAAGCCCAUGGAUUAACAUUUGAAAUGGGGACAUGUUUAUUGGCAUCCUCUGCUUAUUCCUUCUCCGGUCUACUAUGUGUCUAUCCAUGUCCUCUGUUCCCCUUUCCAUACUGCAUUCCAGUCCUUGUCUGUAUAUUUGGGUGUGUAUCUGAGACCGAUAGAAGUACUGAUGUGAAAGAUAAGGUGUGUAGCACACGCAGUGUGCUCAGUGUAUUCCUGGUGGAGUGCGGAGAAUGAAGGGUAGUGAUGGAGAUUCAAAUCAUGUGAAUUUGGUUGAAUUACAGAAGAAGGCUACCACUUUGAAUUUUCUCUACGUGGCAUAUUGGGAUUAAAAGAGUUCCACGCAUAGUCCAUGAUGAAGACAGCCUGCAAGCAUAAAUGGGUAUCCCACGUGGCUAUGAGACUAAAUGAUAUUCCCAUACAAGUCUGCACCUUUGUGAGAGACGUGUCGCUAUUGAAGAAGCAGCCGCAUCCUUGAGACUGUCUGCGCACAAGGAGAAUCUCCAGGGGUGCUUACCUUAUGUACAGAUUUGCAUGGUGAUUAGCUACGCUCAGGUAGUCCUGAAAUGCUUGCAAAUCUGCAUGGUUCACCAAUUGAGUCCGGGAAUUCUGACAGAUCUUCAGGAAUGGAUGACGAGUCCAAUAACCGCGAGGUGAAUUCUAAUUUAGAAGUUCCUAAUGCAAAUGCUGGUCAUGCUAAUGCUCUGCAUGCCAGCGCUGAUGUUGAUAUGAAUGGUGCUAGUCUUGAAGAUCAAAUUGAGCCAACUGGCCCGGUUUCUAAAUAUGGCACGGGUGAGCCACAGUCAAGGCCAAACACUCUAGUUCCUUGCUAUUGAGAUCUACUAUUUAUCAAAAAGACCUAUCCCCAAAUCAGUCCAACAGAAGCCGAAUCAAUUGAAACAUGAAAGCAAUGAGGGUACAAUAUAAAGGGGCAGUUUUUGGCGAGCCGAAUCCGCACCCUUUCGUCCUUGUUGAUGUUGCAUAGAAACUUACGGUGAAUGAGAAAACCAGUCAGUCAAUUCUGGUUAGUGGUGAAAGUGGGAUGCUUAUGCGUUAUCUCGCCUACAUGGAAGGGAGAUCUGUAGCUAAGGGAAGGACUAUUGAGCAACAAAUUCUAGAGUCCAAUCUAGUUCUAGAAGCAUUCGGUGAUGCAAAGACUGUCAGAAACAAUAAUUCAAGUCGGUUUGGUAAGUUUGUGGAGAUUCAAUUUGAUCAGAGGAGAAGGAUUUCAAGAGCAACUAUCAGGACUUAUUUUCCGGAAAGAUCCUGUGUUUGUCAAGUGCCUAAUCCUGAGAAAUUAUCAUCGCUUCUACAUGCUUUGUGAUGCAUCAGCGGAGAAUGUUCAAAGGUCCAGAUUGGGAAAAGCAGGAAGUUUCCAUUAUCUGAAUCAAUCCAAUCGCUAUGAGCUGGAAGGUUGACAGCAACUAAAGACCUUUGCCAUCUCAUUUUUCCCUCACUAAAAUCUGAACCUAAGGCAUACAUGCAUGCUGUCACCAUGGCUCCCGGUCACUCACAUCUAGAAGAUAAGAACAUAAGGAAAAUUCUUGUGGUAAAUGAGCAAACAGACCUGUUUUUACACAGUUCGUUGAUGAUUCACAUGAAAGCAUUUGAUUCAAGACACCAUCUCGCGGAACUGAAAGCGAUGUUAAGGAGAGAACUGAAGGUUUGGUCUUCUGGUUUGUGCUUGGAGGGGAAUAGGAUUUCUGCUGGAGGUAGUGGGAGCCUUUCUGAUAAUUCUUCCAGAGAUUCUGUUGCAAAUGAAACCAGUGCAGCAUCUAGAACUGACAAACCAGCUUUGGAGCGAAGAGAUAAAAAGUACUCUUCAAAUAAUAAUGGUCCAGAAGUGGAGAUUAGUCGCUGUUGUGUAGUCCUUUAGUCUUCACUAAGACUAUUAGUUGGCAAAGUUCACCAGAUUUUGAGGCAAUUCAAGACUAAUUUACUUGAUAUGGAUGCUGCUCUCCCUGAGGAGGCUCCAAGGCCAUCAAGGCCUGACUUAGAAAAGAAAUUGGCAUGGCAUGCUUUUGAUUAAAUCUGCAGAGACAAUCUUUGAGAUGGUUAAAGCAACAAUCAUGCUCGAGGGCAUGAUUAAGAUUGAAUACUUGAUGAACGGAUGGUGGCAUUGGUCAUCACUCUCUGCUGUUGCCAAGACUUCUAUCGUUUCUUCCCUUGCCCUCUGCAUAUACUCUCUGGAUGCUGCCAUUGCGUAUGAGAAGAUCUCAUUUAAUUUGGAUGACUGGCAGUCCCUCGCUCAACCAGAAAUGACAGUAUCUCCCACUCAGCAGAUGCCACAUGCAGAACAGCCAAUUCCUCCAUAAGUUAACCAUCCUUCCUCAUCUUCAGCUAUUGCAUUAUCAAAUUUUCUCCAAAGUGCUAGUGCAAAUGAAUCAAAAGGAAGCUUAGUUAAAAGUCCUAACCUGCUUUUGUCCGAAUUAUCAGAGUUUUCAAAAGAAACAUUGCAGCAAAUACACGAAUCAAUUGGAUUCAGCUUAUAGUCUCAAUGCUGAUGGUGAAAAAUAGCUAUGCUGAUCCAGAAGAGUAUAGUGAUGAAGAUUACAGUAGUUUCCAGAGGCCAAAAGUAGUAAUUGAAGGAAAACCAGAGAAGACUCUCAAAGCCAAAAGAAUCAUGGGACUCUGAACAGUUUGAGGAUCUUUGAUCAGAUCAGUCCAGAAAUCAAUCCUAAUCAGAGGAUGCAUACUGAUAGAGAUCAGGGAAGGUAUCUGUUUACUAGGACACCGUCCAGACUUGAACUUACUGACAAGCACUCUAAAUUUGGCAUCCAUGUUUUCUACUAAAGAACAGCUACUGCCUCUUUGUGAGUGCUUCCCUGCGUCUGUUGCUUCAGAAAAAUCAAUGAGUGGCAGUGUGCAUUUGAAUUGGUUUGUGAAGCAAUGUAUACUGAGCUGCGAAUUGUUCAUCAAGAUAAGUAUGGCUGGGUCCUCCAUGCUGAAAGUGAGCGGCGAACCUAUCUCCAACGACUCGUACAUGAGCGAGGAAUACUUCCAAUGCACAAAACAAGUCUGAUUGAAGGUCCUGAAUAGCAGCUUUGUCCCAUUGAAAGUCCAUAUAGGACGUGCCAGAAGCUUGAAAGAUGCAAAUUAAAAAUCGAUACCAUCCAAAAUGUUCUAGAUGGACAGUGUGAAUCAGUGGAAAUAGAGCUGUCCGGAGAGAAAAAUGAGAUAGGUUUUUCGAAGCAUCUGAUACUGAUUCUGAGUCAUAUCUCCCUCUUUUAGACAGUGGUGUCAAACAGAUUGAUGACAAAUAUUUUGAUGAAUCAUUCUUUAAAGAAUCAGAUGAUAUUAAAGAUGUUGCUUCCGCAAGGAGUGGAUGGAAUGGUGACCGAGCUAGCAUCAUAAAUAAAGCAAGUCUUCACUCUGCUUUGAAUUUGGUGUCAAGUUUAGUGCAGCCACUGUCCUAAUGUCAGAGCAUUCAUGGGAUAUCUGACACAGGAUCUCCAAGGCAGUCUUCUUCUAAGAAAAAUUGAGGAGGGGAAAGAUAGUGAGGAUAAAGUGGAUAAGGAACCGCUUGAUAAUAGUGGAUACUUAACUAGACCGUACCUGGAACCUCUUGCAAAGAUGAAAUUCAGAUAUAAUUGCGAACAAGUAGUUGGCCUUGACAAACAUGAAGGAAUGCGAAGAUAAACUCUCUGUUAUUGAUUAAGCUUUGGGAGCAAUGAAGAAUAUUAAUUUGCGGGUGUGCCGUGGCAUGAGGGUUGCUGUUUGUGGUACUGUAAGCUCAGACAAGUCAAGCUUACUAUCCUGUAUGUUCUGAGAGGUGUCUAAGAUAUCUGGUAUCUUUAAACUGUGUGGAACAAAGGCCUAUGUUACUCAGUCUCCUUGGAUACAGAGUGGCAAGAUAGAAGAGAACAUCUUGUUGGUAAAGAGAUGGACAGAGAAAGACCAAAAUACGAUUGAUACAAACAUUGCAACAGCCAAUCAAGCCAUCCUUUGCCUCUUAAAACUAUGAUGAAUCCAUUAUGAGAUCGCCACCAUCCCCGAUAUAUUGAACCAUCACAAUCUUUUGAGUCUGAAUUCCCUACACUGCAUGUAUUAUCAAGAAACAACCCUUCAACAUCCUCACCGCUGUCAGCAUCUCAUGCAGAGCUAGAAGACAGCCCACAGCAGAACCCCCAACUUCUGUACAAAAGCAUCUAAAGAUAGCUCCAAUUCCAGGAGUUGAUGAUUUAAUUGAUCAAAUGGCUGUCACAACUGGUCUUCUUUUUUUUUAUUUUACCUUUUAAUGGAAGCCACUCAGCCUUCUGUUGUUGAUGCAAAUUCAGAGCGAGAAAUUGAAAUUGAAGUCUAGAGUGAGAUCCUUUUUUACGAAAAGGAAACAAACAUUGAUGAUAGUGAAUAAUGGUGUUCCCCUUAAUCAAGACUUCAUCAGUAACUUACCCUCUCUGAUCCUGUGCAUGGAACCAUGGAAUUCGUAUCCUCUGCAAUGAGCUUACAGCAUAUGUGCUGACACAAAGCAAAGGGAGAAUCAGAUUAUGAUGAGUACAGAUCAGCAUGGGGACGAGAAGGUCUGGGUUAACCAUCUUCAAAGAGCUUGUGUACCUUACCAAAUCUAAAUAGCAAAGGAGAAAUAAGAGAAUGGUGGAGUACGGUGUCUUCUAGGAGGUCACUCUCGAAAGUCCAGAAAUGUAGGAUCCAUCAGUAAGCUCUAAGUUACUGCCCCUUUGCCUUCACACACGCGAAGAAGUUGCUGAAUCCUAUUGACUGAGAGAUAGUUUCUGAUUCUGGGCAAUUUGAUAUGCCUAAAGAAUGGGAAGUUAUUCGGGAAACUGAACAUCUGAAGAUCAAUAAAGACAUAAGCAUUCAGUUAAUGUUUAGCAGGUUGACGACAGAAACAGAACCCUGAUGUUAAUAUAAGGGAAAUUGCUGAUACACAUUUCCAGAUCAGAUGAUAAGUAGAAAUUGCUUUUCUGCCAGCGUUUCCUCUUUUCUGCCAUGGCGAAGCACCUUUAGGAUGAUGACAAUGGUUCUACUUUCUCCAAUGUGGUGAAUCCAAAUGACUUCUUGUCAUUCUCUGAACCUGAAUUAGAAGAAAUAUUGGAAGAUAUCAGCUGGAGUGCACCAAUCUGGUUUGGGUUGUGAUGCCAGUAGCAUGAAAACAGGAACUUUAGGAAGAGAUGGUAGUGAAAUUUCUUUCUCCACAAUUGUAUGAGCGAAUCGAGUUUGCAGACAGCGACCACUGAUGUAAGAACGCAGAAUUCCAUUUCAGCAAUCUACAGAAACAUCUUCAGGCAACCCAAGUAAUUCAGUCUCAAAAGUAGCCUAGACACUAAUCCAGCUUGGCCACCUCACCACGCAUCAUACUCCUUCUAUUGUUUCUUUUUCUUCUUUUGUGAUUUUAUACAUCUUAAAUCUAGAUUUCAAAACCAUUCUACGUCAAAAUAACUCCAAUUUUCUUUAAACUUCUUUAGAAGCUCCUAGGUACAAAAUCCAGAUUUUAACAUGCAAUUUGCUGCCACUUUACUUCGGGUAUGCACUUUCACUGUUUUCUUUGAUUUUAACUAUUUUCGUGUUUUUCUUGAUUUUCCUAAGCAUGAACAAACUUCAUAAUUCCAAAUCAUGGAAUUUAUGGAAUCAACUCAUGCGAAAUUAAUUAGGGCUUUGGUGGGGGCCCGACAUUCAUGAUACCUUAUUCAAUAUUGUUUGCUUGAUAUGUUGAUUUUUGAUUCUUCUUGAUGAUAUACAUGAAUGUGUUUCGUAUUUAUUGUUGAGAUGCUCUUGAUCCCCAUAGAGGAGUACUAGCUUGCUAUUCAGGUACGCUCUCUUCUCAUCUAUUUUUUUUUAGAACUCUAUAGACUUGUAUGCCAUUGAUAACCAUAUCCAUAUUUGACGUGAUUCUUGGAUGACUUGAUAUAUGCCUGACUUGCUUGAAUAAAACAAAUGUUGUGUGCUACAUUCCUACACUAACUUUUAUGUUUUAUGAUAGCGCUUGAAGAGCGGUUCAGGUACGCACCCUAACUCUCCUUUAUUGUGAUUUGAUCUUGUUUAACAUGCAAUUUUUUGAAAUCACCUAGCCUACUUAGGUAUCCAUAAUUAACCGAUUAAUUGUCAUAUUCCCCUUAACUUAGUUAGUAGAGACCUUUAUAGGGCUUAGAGGGGUGCUGCCUUUCAAAGGUACCUUCCCAAUAGGUAACCUAAUCCCCGGACUUAGACUCGGGUUUUUCAAAGACGCUUUUUCCAAAAAUUAUGGAGUCAUUUUUUAGGGUUUUAUUUCUUGUUUUAUUUUCCCCUUUAAAAAAAAAUAAAAUAAGUGGCGACUCCAACUUUUUUUCCAAAAAUCAAUUUUUCACAAAAUAAUAAAAAGCGAGUCUCGCCGAUCGAGUGGGGACGCACGUGAAAAAUGCGGGUCCACAGAGGGCUCUUUGAGCCCAAAGUGGAUAGUAUAUAUUUACACAGUUGGAAGUGAGUCAUUACAAAUGGUAUCAAAGUGUAUCCCCAGUCAUGAUAUGAGAGUUUAUCUCAUCAUUGUAAUUAUGGGCAUUAAGGUGAAGCUUUCAUGUUUGCAUCAUAAGAUCAUGAUGUUAGGAUAGAUUCUUUAAAAGCAUGAUAUGAUGUAACCAUAAAUGGAAUUCAUUAAUACUUAUAUUAUGACUUUGAAUUUCUAUUCACUAUCCUAUUUAUGAAUUAUGUAUGUUAAGCCUUCAAACCUACAUCACUUGCAUGUACAUGACUUGAGUGAAUUAGGAGUUACAUGAAAAAUCUAAGUCAUAGAUUCCUUGCAAGUUAAUGACUCAUUCACAACUGGUUCAUGGACUUCAAUAAACCAUUUGAGGCUAUAGUGCACUACCUCCUAAUUGGAGGGAUAACUUGCCCUAGUCAUUAGGAUGGGUUUCCCAUGGUGAGUGUACGUACUAGUGUGUUUAGUUAUGUUGGGAAACCUAGAUCUCUCCAUUCCCAUAACCCUGGAUUGUAUAGGUGCAUGCAAAAUACCCUAGGCCUCUAAAUCCUAUGCAACAAAAGCAAAAAUCAAAAUUUUAACAUUCUAUAAUCUAGAGAAAAGUCACCAAAAACUUUGAGAAAAUUAAAGGUUAAUCUUAAUAGAGAAAACACCCAAGAGAGGAGGGAAGGGGGGGGGGGGGGGGGGGGGGUUUGAAUUGAGUUUUUAAAAAAUCAUUUUCAAACACCACAAAUUCAAGAAAAGGAAACACAAAUAUAAAGAGAUAAGGUUAAAAAGAGUAAAAUUAGAUUUUAUAGUGGUUCAGCACUUCCUUGCCUACAUCCACUCUCCUCAACCUCUUAACUGAGUGAAGGUUCCACUAUACUUGAAGCUUCAACUAAGCUUUUAAUCACCUUUACACUUGGAUUCUAGCUCCAAUGGACUAUUACAUAAUCCCUUCAAGUCUUAACUCACUUGAAGCUUUUAGCAUUCAAAAUAACAAGUUUGAAUCUCUCAACCUAGCUCAACAAGGGCUCAAAUACAACUUAAAUGUUAGGAAGAAUCACAAGGGGGCACUAAGGAAUAUGCAAAUGGAUAUUUAAUGCACUAAGGAAAGAAUGAGAGCUUUUGAGGCAAGAAUAAGUAGGCAGACAAAUAAAUGCAGGUGUUCUCUACCUCAUAAAUGAAGUGGAGUUCUCAAUUUGUAGGUUUCUAGCCUCAGGAGUCAAAAAUGCCGAAAAACGGCCUUGACCAGUCGAGUUGGGGUUACUAGCCAUUGGACAAUAAAUGCAUGAUAGGUGAUCGUUACACCUCGACUGGUCCUUGACCAAAUCUUGAUUAGAUCUCAACCGAGAAGGCAUAUCCCUUGAUCGGGAAUGCAAAGCUAUAAGAAGAGAGAGAAGAUUUUUGCAUUUCUGGACUAGACCUCGAUCAAGAAGGUGUAAUCAGUUAACCAGUGCCCUAGCCGGUUGAGCCAGUUGGCUAGUGCCUUGACCAGUUCACCAUUUUUUGCCUGAAAACCUUUUUUUUUUUUUUUUGUUCUUUUCUCUUCUAACACUUAAACAAGGUAUUUAGGUAAAUUAAUAUGCCAAUUUUGAAACAAUUUGCCUAAGGUUCAUAUGAUAAAACUCAUGUUUUGACGAAAAUGUAACUUUAAUGCCUAAACUGAGUUUUUAAAGUGCAUGAAAAGAUAUGAAAAUCCUAAGUGCACCAUGCAUUCAUCUUACAUAUGUUUCCUAUUAUUAAAGGGUCUUCCAAUUGUCUUGAUCUUGCAUCCAUUGGGUCCUUUGAUGAAUUUCCAAACUAAUACUUGAAAUUCUUUAUAAUUCAAACCAAGUAACAACUUAACCAUGGUUUGUUAUCAUCAAAACAUGAUUAGGAGAACCCUUGGGCUAACAAACUUUAGAUUUGAUUUAAAUGGUUCUUAAAUCAAUUUUGCUUAGUGAAGGUGAAUCCUAAAGAGUUCAGAUGUCUCACACACCAAAAAUCUUUUGCUUGAUGACUUGAUCCAUAAUCUUGGCACUCCAAAAUGUGGGCUUUGGAAUAGAGGAAUCCUAGGCUCUCUCUCUUUAGACAUAGAAGAUGAUUGUCUCUCAAAAAGUGAUUGGAACCCUAAGCUUUAAAGGGUAUUUAUAGCAUUUCCCUACUAGGCUUAAAUGACUUGAGCCCACUAAGGCUUGGGCCACUUAAUCUUAUCUAAAAUGGGUCUUAAUUGAUUAAUUAACCAUACAUGAUCAUCUAAUUAACCAAUUCAUGUCAAUGAGAUAAUAAAGAGAAAACAAAAAAUAUAAAUAAAUUUCUAUCUGUUACAUCAUGUCAUGCUUUUUAGGGCUCAAUCCUAAUAUGUUACACAUUAGAUAAGAUUUAUGGUGAGUCAGAGAUUGGUCAUUAGGUAGCCUUAACUUCACCAAGCUACUAUGUUGCAUAAGCUCUCAACCUUGAGAGAAUAUUGAUCUAGUGCUAAGGUCUUCAAAGGCUUUGACCCAUGAGUGAGACCCUAAAGUGGUCAUAUAUUCUCUAUAGAUAGGAUUACUAUGAUUGAGGCAUGUGAUAAUGGGUAUUCUCAAGAUAAGCACCAUGAUAUCUUAAGGGUUUGAGACAUUAUGUCCCCUUAGGUGAUCCUAAGGACAUGUGAUCGUGAAAAUUAUGGCCAUAAUGAUUCCUUAAGUGGAAUUUAACAUAUGCUCUUGGAGGGAUAUAGUAUGUCAAUUGAUCACAUAAUAGGAGGAUCUAAGACUCAAGGAUUGUAGAAGUAAUCUUGAGAGGUUGAUAACAUUCAUUUUGUUAAAUUAUGGAUACCAAUUCAUGAGGAGCUUGCAUGCAAUUGUUAGUAGGUCACAGACUGAAGUUUUCUAUCUCGAUUUAAUAUCAUAAAGAUACUAAAUUGUAGUUUACUCUCUAUAGUUAGAUUUUGAGUCAACUUUAAGAUUGGAUUUUAAGGGAGCCAGUACUUCCCUAUGGAUCCUAGUGGUUCCCACUCAAACUCAUAUUCCUUGGUCAAAAAAUAUUUGAGGAAUAGUUGGAUUAUUUAUUUAUAUGUGUGUAUAAGAGCAUUUUGGUAAAUAUGGAAGGUUGCACAAGUACAUAUAAAUAAUCUUUUAAAUUUAGAUAAUUAAUUAAUUGAAACUCAAUAGAGCAAAUUAGUUAAUUAGGACCCAAUGAGUCAGAUUAAGUAACCUAAACGUAAGAUGAGCUCAAGUCACUCGAGCUAAGAGGUAAGCCUAUAUAAACUCCUUAAAGGGUUUAAGGCUUAGUACUUGUCAGCCAUUCAAUCUUCUACCUUAAUAUCUAUCCCCACAAAGAGGAUUCUAACACCCUUAUGUGUUAGGAUACAAGAAAGAGAGUUAUCAGGCAAAAUAUCAUGAGGUAUUUGAGAUCUUAAUUGACCUCUUCACCAAUUAGAUUUAAUUCCUUGAGCACUUAAAUCUAAUAUUCAUUGUUCUGAAUUCUCCCAUGACAUAGUUCUAGCAUUUCUACGAAGAUAGUGUCAUGCACCUAAUGAUCUAGGGCUUGAAGUUAGGUAAUCUAGAUGUUCCAACACAUGAGAAGUAUAAAUUUUUUAAUAAUGCUCUCUUAUCCAUACUUGUGAAAUAUGGAAAGCUACAGUGAAAUAACAGAUAAAGUUUAUUAUCAAGAACUCUAUUUGAGAAUUAAUUGAACUAUUGUUAAGACAUAAGACCUUAAGGAAUAAGUAGGUUUUUAAGGUCAAACUUUAGGCAAAUGAUGCAAGUUGUUAAACUUAACUCAUGAAGAAAGGAUACAACCAGAAUAAGUGUGUAGAGUAUAAAAAUAAAAAUAAAUAAAAAAAAAUCUCAUGAGAAGUGAGGUUUGCCUCAACUCUCCUUAUUCAAACCAUUAUCACAUCUUUGGAUUUGAAAUUAUAUCAAAUAAACAUUCAAAUCAUUUUUCUCAAUAGAGAACUAAAUAAGAAGAUCUAUAUAGAUCAAUUGACUGGUUUUAUGGCAACUAAAUAGAAAGUCAAAGUUAACAACUACAAAGGUCCAUUUAUAGCCUACAAUAAUCAUCUCAACAAUGGUAUAUUACACUAAUGGGUUUAUGAUGGUCUAAGAACACUAUUGCAUGUUUGUUAAACGGUGUAAGGGUAGAUUUUUUAUCCUUUUUUUUUUUUUUUUGUAUACAAAUGAAAUGUUGGUUAGGGAUGAUAAUGAGAUGGUUACCUCUAAAGUGUGGUGGUCGUCAACUUUUAAAAUGAACAACAUGCUUAAAGCAAACUAUGUUUUCAAAGUUAUGAUCCUAAUCAAUCAAUCAAGGAGACUUUUUGGUUUGUUUUACAAAUCAUAAACAAUGAAUAUUCUUGAAAAAAUUCUAUAUGUAAAAUUGAAAAUCUAUUAGCAUACAUAUACAGAAAGAUAAGACCUUAAGCUUUAACAUGUGUCGUAAGACUUUAGAUGAAUAGGAAAAGAUCACUCAAGGUUCCUAUAUGCUAGCAUUGUUAGUAGCUUAAAGUAUCCAAUGAUGUGUACAUGAACUAAUAUUUGUUAUAUAAUUAGGUUUGUAGCUUCCAAUUAGAUCUAAACCUUGCUUACAAAAAAGCAAUGGAUUGGAUGCUUUUCUACCUCAAAGUCACCAUAGGCUAUAUAAUUUUCUAUUGAGGAUUGAAUUUGGACAUGAUUAGCUAUAACAGUGAUAAUUGGGGUAGCAUCCUAAAUGAAACUAAAUCCACAUAUGGUUAUAAUUUUAUAUGUGCUCUAUGAUGUUAGCAUAUAUUGGUGAAAUAGAAAACAAUCAUGUAUAACAUUGUCUACCAUGCGUGGAGUUGGGAGUACCUUACUUGUUGUUUAGGAAAGUGACUAGUUUAUGAUGUUCAUACAUAUUUUUCACAACAUUGCUUGUUCUUUUGAGCAUACUACUAUUUAUUGUGAUAGCAUGGAAACUUUAGCCUAUGUCAAAGACCCCCNNNNNNNNNNNNNNNNNNNNNNNNNNNNNNNNNNNNNNNNNNNNNNNNNNNNNNNNNNNNNNNNNNNNNNNNNNNNNNNNNNNNNNNNNNNNNNNNNNNNCCUUGCUUACGAAAAACCAAUGAACUGGAGGAUUUCAUACCUAAAAGCCCCCAUAGGCUAUAUAAUUUGCUAUUGGGGAUGAAAUUGGGACUGGAUUAGCUACAACAAUGAAAAUUGGGGUGGCAUCCAAAAGGAACCAAAACCCACAUAGGGUUAAAAUUUUAUAUAUGCUCUAGGAUGUUAGCAUAUAUGGGUGAAAAAGAAAAAAAUCAUGUAAAAUAUUGUCUCCCAUCCAGGGAGUGGGGAGUACAUUAGUUGUCGUCUAGGAAAGUGACUAGUUUAUGAUGUUCAUACAUAUUUUUCUCAAUAUUGCUGGUUCUUUGGAGCGUACUACUAUUUAUGGGGAUGGCAGGGAAACUUUAGCCUAUGCCAAAGCCCCCCCCCCCCCAAGUAUCAUAGUUGAACCAAACACAUCAAUCUUAAAUGUUAGUUUAUAUGAGACAUGGUUAAAAAUCCUACCCUCACCCCCCUUGUUGACUAAGCUAAUACGUAAAGAUGUUUAUUAGGGUCAAGUUGAGAGUAUUGGAUUAUGUAGAUCAUGAUUAUGUGGAAGUUAAGUUGAGAGCAUUGGAUCAUGUAGAUUAUGAUUACAUAUUGUGUAUUUCAAUUAACCAUUAUACCUAUGAUUUAUUCAUUGUCCAAUCUUGUUUGAUGGUGACAUUUAAUUAUUUGUUUUACUUUAUUGACAUACACUUUCAUUACUUUGCACAACUGAAACAUAAUGAGUCCAAAACCACUUAGAUAGUGUGUUAGGUCAUUGAUAUUUAUAAGACUCCUUUUUGUAUCCAAUAAAACUUGCAUGUUAGUAGCGACCAAGUAUAGAUAGUCUUAUAGUCCACAUUUGUAAUGGAGUCAAUUGCCAAAUCUUGUUAAUGUAGUGCUUGAUUAAGUAAGCAUGUGCAAAACUUGAGUUCUUUGCUCGAUGCAAUUAAACUAAGAUUUGUACAAUAUAGAAGAUCUAAGGUACACUCAUAAUGAAGAUCUCCAUGUUAGCAUAUAUUUUCAUACUAUAUCUUCUUGGCAAUCAAACAAGAAUGAAUGAAUAUAUUCCUAGCUACUCCCUCAUCAUGUGCAUUAAUCUUAUUGGUGAUUAUAUAGUAUAACUUUUAUGCCCUUGUGAUUUUCAGUCAUAAGUUACAAGUAUGGUGUAGUUUGAAAUAUUUUUCUAGGGGGAUUCACCAUGUUUAACUCAAUGUGAAUAAAAGUGUUUAAGAUAUAACGAGACACCUUCUAGGGAUGAAUUACACUGGUUAAGAUGAAGUUUAGUUUGAUACUCUUGCACCUUUCUUAUCAAUGUGUUCGACAGUUGCAUAAUCCAUUAGUCAAUAUGAACAUGGAUGACAAUGAUAUAGUUGAGAAAAAUGCAUGACGUUAUUUUGCCUACUAUGCAUGAGUGGGAGACAAUGGAGUUUCUAUUUCAUGAGAUACUCUUAGUAGGGCUUCAUUAGCUAAAAGCUUGAGAGUAAGUUGCAUACUUAUCAGUUAAGAUUCCUCAUGGGAGAAAAGUUUAGUUAAGAUUCCUCUCAUGGGAGGAGGUUCACAUUUAGAUUUUGUGAGAAUCUAUAAGAGUUUUUUGUCUUUUUCAAUUCCAAUUCUAGUCCUUUUGCAUGUUUUGAAUUUAGUUUGUGGCAGUUGUUAAAUACUUCUACUUUAAUUUUUAGCAAUUAUAAUUUUUUAAAGCUUACUAUUUAGGUUUAGAUUUAUUACAUGCUUAUUAGAUAUCUUAAUUCCUAUUGUAUUCUCCUUGGUUAAUAAUCUUCCAAUUUGAUUGUGGAGUUCAAAGAUUUUUACCAAAAUAAGGAUCAGGGUUUUCAAAGUUAGGAAAAGUAUUUAAUAAAAUUAAUUUUUGAAUAAGUUUGCAAGCUAAAUCUUUCGAUUGAACCUAAUAAGUUUACAUACUAAAUCUCUCAUUUUCAGCCUUGGUUGUUUCCACUCUUUGCAAUUUAAUUAGUUUUUUUAAAUAUAUAUAUAUAUAUAUAUAUAAUUCAUUUUGUGUACCUAUAUGCUCAAGUUUUUGAGUAAUUAUGAGUUGUAUUGUUAUAUUUUGUAGAAUUUGACAAACUAAAAAUGCUUACCUUUGAACAAUCGAGUACAAUAGCACAUUUGUGUGGAUAGUUCAUGGCUACCAACUUGAUUCUCCAUGCCUCCUCUAUUAGGUUGACUAACAAAAUGGUUCAAUUUCACAGGAACACCUUAAGAAUAAAAAUGUCAAGAAAAGAGAAGGAAAAUUAUGUUUCGUCUAAUUUGACUGCAAGACUUAAACAAAAAAACAUAAUAAUAUAAUAGUUAUUAUAAUGAAUAUAAUAAAAAGAAAAUUUUUCAUGUUCUUCCCAAUAAUCAUAAAACCCCUUUCAAUGAAACUUUGUAAGCUCUACUAAUACAAAAUAAUGGUCCAUAUAGUAAAAGCUCAAUAAAUGAAUGUUUGAUAAAUUAAUAAUCUUAUAAAACAAAAUCUUCUAGUCUUAACUUAGACCAAUGUACUAAAUUAGCAAUCUCGUUAAAUACACAAGAUAAAAAUAUUUUCAAAAAUCUUUAAGGGCUCAAGAAAUAUAAACUAAUAAUUGAUGAAGUAGAAACAAAAAUUCGUAGUAUAGAAAAUAGAACUUCAUAAUAUAAUAUUAAGUAAUUUUUUAUAACUUUUAUUUUUCUAAAUUCACUUCUUUUAGAAUUAUCACAUAUUUGAAAUAGCUUUAUCUUUUACAACAUUAAGUUUUGAUGCCACAUCUUUUUUUAGGAGUCUUUUUAUCUUUUACAAUCAAUAACUAUUUUUUUUUCUUCAGUCUCUUAGGUUUCUGUGUAUUAACUUUUUACCAUGUGUAUUAUUUUUAAAUUUAUAAGUUAUACAUGUACUAAUAAAUAUUCAUUUAUCUAUAAAUCAAUAACCUCGUUAAGAUCAUAACUUUUCUUAGUCCCAAGAGUAUUAUUUUAUAAGAGUUUUUCUCUAUAUAGUUCCUUCAUUGUAGGAAUUUCUUUAGGUUAAUAUUACUAAAGUUGUAAUUUUAAAAGAACAUAUAUAAUGGAAAUUAAGAGAAAUUCGAAAUCUAUAAAUUAAUGUUUUAUAUCAUUCUUUUUUCCUAUGAAUGCUAAAGCCAUUGUCAAAUAAAAAGAGUAAAUAAAAUAAUUAAUCAAGUAAUUAGUUGAAAGCGAAAUAGGUGACUUAAAACUAUUGCUUUGGUACAUGGUUGUUUGAGGUGAAUAUAGUAGAUCAUAAGAAAUAAAAUCCUCUAACUAUGUUUAUUUGAUAGAAUAAAAAGGUGAGUGUGUGGUUGCUCCAUAGGAGAAGACCACAUGUUAACCAAAGAAUAAGUAACUAGAAAGCUUACACAAGUGUUAAAUGAUCAAUUUCUUGCCCAAGCACAUUAAUGAGAACUAAAUGUUGAAGGCCCAUGCCUCCAUGUGGGGAGACCUUAAUUGCUACCUUAAAAGGAAAGUUUAAAAGUGGUCAUAUCCUCUAUGCCAGGUUAGUAUUCCAAAAACUAAGAAAGUUAACCUUUGAGUUGAUGCUUAUUUGUUAGGUAGUUUCCUCAUUCUUCUUAAUAAAUUGACCUUUGAAGGCUCUAUGACUAGAGUGCUCACUUUAGAUUCCUUAUUAUUGUAAGGUCCUAACCAUCCAUUGAAGUAAGAAAGUGAACUAAUACUUGGAAAAAUGGUGUCAUCUAUGGUGAAGAUACAAAAAUUCAGCUCACCAAAAAAUCAUAGUAAAGCUACUAAAAAACACCGCACCCCCAGACAAGGACCUUCAUUUGAGUACUCCUUGAGGUCUACCCAAAUCGAAGACUUGACAUUGAAGAAAUGAAGUCAACUAAACUUAGUUCCAUGCAUGAUAAGGUUGAAAGCCUGCAUAAAAACCUAUAGAAAGCUUGCCUCUUUAUAAGAAUAAGCUGAACCUAAAAAGGAAGAAGACCUAUAAAAGGUAAUCAUAAAUAACAAAGAAAAAGAAGUUCUUCCCUCAUUUGAAAAAUCUUUCUUUGAAUGCAGAAACUUAUAUUUUUUUUUUUAUUAUCAAGAAACCUUCCUUUGUAUCCAAAAAUUGGUGGAAUAAAAAUUUUCAAUCCUAUAUGAAGAGUUUUAGCUUCUUCAUAUGGGAAUGCAUUAAAAGCCUUGAAGACAUUGUUUAGAUCUAUAGCAAUGGUUAGGCAAUAAAAGACUAUACAAUAGAGUCUUGGUAGGAAAAGGUAAUCAUGAUAAAAAUGAAGUGGAGCAAUGAGUGAGAGCAAACCAUUCAAUAGAUGGAAGACCUCACUAAAAGAAGUGAUUGACACAUUCAAGAAAAUGUUGUCUUCAGGGUAAGGGUAAACAAAUACCAAUGUGAUUUUGACCAGGAACUCUCAUUGGCAAGCACCAAUAAGAUGCAAGUUAAUGAAUAAUAGUUAAUUAGACCAACAUAUAGAUUAAAUUGGGAGAGAAGGGUGAAGGAAACCUUAAUUAAACUAACCAAACAAACCACCUUGCCAGAGGUCCCAAUGCUCUAAGGGCUUCUUACCACUAGAGCUACCACAAAAUGCAUAAUCUUAGUGAAUAAGGCGAUUGAGCCUAAGUCCCUUUAGGAGGAGGAGGAGGCCACAUGAGGGUUUUUCCUCCUUAAUUUUAAUUUCUUUCAAUGAAACUAAAGGCACUCUAGACAACUCAUGCAUUUAUAUGCAUAUGAUGAUCUUAGAGAAGGGAAGCGAUCAACUUUUAUGCAAAAUCUUCUCCUUCAUCCUCCAAUGACUAACUUUGUAUUGUUUUUAUCAACUUACCUUAGAGUUUGUUCCUGAUAUUGAGACCCUAAGGGCGAUGUCUACCUCCUAGAUCAUGCACUUAACAAGACAAAAGAAAAGCCGAAAAUAACCCAAGGUAGUUAUAGCUACCAUCCAUGGUGGAUCAUCUACUAGAUUUGAGCAACUAGACAAGGUAUCAAGAUGUUACAGAAGCAUAUGGCAAUUGAAGUAAAAGUCCUCACAUCCUUGCAUGAAGCAACUACCACUUGCCCAUUUGUCAUAUGCUUCUCUAAUAAAGACUUAAGAGGAGUCCAAACCUUACUGAAGAUCCAUUGGUUAUUACUUUAAGAAUUAUUGAAUACAACAUGCACCUAUUCUUAGUUGACCUAACAAGUUUAGUUAACUUGCUAAAUAUAUAAGCCCAUAUAUGAACAAAUGAAUAUGGACAAAGGAAAACUAGUGUCAAGUCUUGGGUCAUUAAUGGGACUAGACAAAGUCCUAUGUGGCUCAAUUGGGGAAGCUGCUCUAAUGGUUCCAAUUGGUUGUUGCCAUAUAAUGACACAAUUCUUUAUUAUGGAUAUCCUUUUCCCGACAAUGCCAUUAUGGGAUGACCAUGGAUAUACAACCUAAGAGGAACACUAUUCACAUACCAUCACACCAUUAAAUUCCUAACACUAUAAGGAAUAUGGGAAAUAUAUCGGGACUAGGUGGCAGCAUGAGUAUGCUACACCAUACCCCUUAAAGCGGUCAACAAGUGCAUCAAUUGGGACCUUUAGGAAGUUUAUAAAUCAAAAAUCAACUACAAAUUAGUAGGUGGCCCGAGAAAACAAUUAGAGAACCUAGGGAUUCAUUAUUCUAGAGCCCCUAAACCUAGGAGGUUCCUUCUAGUCCAUGUAAAAAAAAUGAUUUAAGAUGGCUACUAGAAAGAAAAACACAUCUUUUCUAGGAAACUAUAGGACAUUGUGGGCAUUGAUCCCCAAGUUACAUGUCAUCGACUCAACAUAAACCCUCGUGGUUAGCUCCUUAAAAACAUUAGGUUGUGAAAGAAAAGGUAUCUAGGCUCUUAGAUGCUAUAUUUGGUCAUUUAGGUCUUUUAACAACAAAUAGAAGUCAGUAUGCUAGUUUACAUUAAUAACAUGUUAGUAACAAGUAAGAAGAGGAAUGAGUACUUGAUUGACCUCCUAAGAACAUUUCAAACUCUUAGAAAGUACUAAAUGAAGCUAAAUCAGUGAAGUGCACCUUUAAUGUAGGGUAUGGAAAGUUCCUUAGGUACUUGGUUACAUACAAAGGAAUUGAAGCUAACCCAGACCAAAUAAAAUCAACUUUGGAGAUACCAAUGACCAAAAGGGCUAGAGAAGUCCAAAAGCUCACUAACAAGAUUGGUUCUUGAAAUAGAUUUAAAUAUUGGACAAAAAAUAUAUGCCAUCCUUUCUUCGACAUUAGCAAGAAGGGAAAAUGGACUAAAGGAACCAAAAAAUGCAACUAAGCCUAUGAAUCACUAAAGCAUUACAUGAUGCUAACCCUCAUUCUGGAUAAACCUUAGGAUAAGGAGGUCUUACAAGGUCUCAUUAGUAGUAGUAAGUAGAGUGUUAUCUCAAAAAAAAAAGGAGCAACCAAUGUACUAUGUCUAAAAGGCUCUCUUAGAUGUGGAAACCUAAGAUAUAUAUAAAUAGUGAAAAACAGGUGCUUGCCCUUUAGAUCGCCACAUUGAAACUUCAAUGUUACUUCCAAGCGCAUGUUAUUAAGGUAAGGACUAAGUGAUGAGAACUCAACCUUAAUACUUUAAUGGCUUUAAAGAGCCCACUUUAGUGUGUUUGAGGUACUAAAAAAUUAGCCCAAGGUUCUGUUUUUUUUAUAAUACCUUAAAAAAUUAUGUUUGAUGCAUUCUAUGACCAUUCUACAUGCUUUAAGAUGUAUUUUUUUUUUUGUUAGGAUAGAGUCCUUAAAAGCAUGAUAUGAUGUAAUAAAUUUGGAAUUCAUUAUUUAUUUAAUAAUGUUCUAGUUUCACUUUUAUCUAUCCUUAUUCCAUGUAUUGUACUUUAUGAGCAUUCUUGUCUACAUCUUUUGCAUUGUACAUAACUUAGGUGCAUUAGGAGUUGCACAGAAGAUCUAAGCCACGGGUUUCUUGAAAAUAGAUUACUUGUUCACAGUUGGUUCAUGGGCCUAGGCAAACCAUUAGAGGUUGCAAUACGCCACCUUCUAAUUGGAGGGAUGGUUGGUCUUGGCUAUUGGGAUGAGUUUUCCAUGGUAAGUGCACUAGUGUGUAUGGUUGCACAUUGAACGAGACCUAUGGUGAUUUAUGACUUAAGCCUAUCAAGUAGUCAUGACUCCACUGAGCUGCUUCAUUGUAUUAUCUCUCAACCUUGAGAGAAUAUUGAGUUUGUGCUGAAUUUAAUAGUGGCUUUGACUUACAAGUGAGGUCGUAAACUGAUCAUAUAUUGCCUAUGGAUUGGGUCACUAUUGAUGGAAGCCGAUUGCAAUAGGUAUUCUUAAUAAAAGCACCAUGAUAUCUCUUGGGAUUGAAACAGUGUGUCCCCUGGGUGAUCUUAAGGAGGUGUGUUCAUGGAAACUUUGGCUAUAGUAGUUCAUUAAGUGGAAUUUGACAUAGACUCUUUGAGAGCUAAGAUAUGUUAAUUGAACACACAAUAGGAAGAUCUGUAACUCAAGGAUGGUUGAGGUAGUCUUGAAAGGCUGAUAGCUUUCACCUUGUUAGACUACAGACACCAAUUCAUAGGGAGACUAAACACAAUGGACAGUAGGUCAUGGACCCGAGCACUUAGUGUCUUUGUUGUUAUUUACAUAAGAUACCGGAGUUCAGUUGAUUCUCUAUAGUGGGAUGUGGAAUCAACUUUAAAAUAGGACUAUGAGGGAGCCAGUAUUCCUAUAGGUCCUAGUGGUCCCCAUUAUGAGCUCAUAUACCUUGUUACAUGGGUAAUGAGGGUUGGAUUGACUCUAGGUUCACUUUUGUGCAAUAGGGCGUUUUGGUAAUUAUGCAAGGUUGUAUAGGAUUAAGUGAUCAAGGUCUCUGGAUUGGGCUAAUCGAUUAAUUAGUAGGCCUUAUUAGGUUAAUUAAUCAAUUAGAACUCAUUUUAGGUUAGAUUAAGUGACCCAAACCCAUGUGGGCUCAAGUCACUUAAGCUCACUUAGAAACCCUAUCAAUACCCCCUAGGGGUUAGGGUUUCCAUAACUUUUGUCUUCCAUCAUCCAGAAAGAUAGAGACCCAUAGCCUCCACCAUCUUUUCCUCCUUAUCAAAAGUGUGCCAAGAUCAAGGUCCAAGUCAUUGGGCAGAAGACUUUGGGUUUUUGAGACUUCUAUGAUUUCAAUUUUCAUCUUCACCAUGUGGAUUGGAUUCGAGAACACUUGAAUCUAAUGUAUGGUUUUUGGUAGCAUUUUCUGAAUCCUUUUAAAGUAUAAAAAUGCUAUUUUUCCGUUGUGCAUAGGAUUUAGAAAAAGCCUAUGAUAGUUAUGCAUGUUCCUAACUUGAUCCAGACUUGGGAAACAGAGAGAGAUUUGGGUUUUUCCCAUCAUUUUUGGUGCAAUAGAACCUUGUUAGGAACUCAUAGAGACAAAAAUGCCCAAGUAAGGAGGAAACACAGAUUGCACACCUAAAAGGUGUGCAAGACUUAAUCAUGCACUUAUUUCUUAGUGUAAAGCCACAUAGUGCACCUCCCAUGUAUACCUUAAAGACCAAACACACAAGAUCUCUCUAAUGCAUUGGACCAAAUUUCACACCCUAUUCAAGCAACCCAAUCUGCAAACCUCUUAAAUGCUUUAAGCCAAGAUGUUGUGCACCCCCUCACUUAAGUCAAUAGGAUGUGUAGUAGUGUAACCCUUUGAUGUCAUCUAAAUUACAAACCAUUCUUACCUCUAUAAUAGCUAAGUACUUAAUAAUUCUUCUAAUGAUUGGCUCACACACCAAAGUAGUAUGUUGUUCAUACCUCAAAGUCUUCAAUUAUACUACCAAAAUGUACCUAAGCUGAAUUACAUAGAGAAAAAAGGUGCAACUACCGACCAUAAGCUAACACAUCAAGAAUGAUGGUGGGUUGAUUGCAAUGACAAAGGACUUGACCCUUAGUAUAAGAAGAGACAAGUCCCGAGGAGGGGGUAACGUUUUUUGCCUAUAAAUGGAGGAUUGUGAAUAUACAAGUGGAAGCAAAUUAUAGAAAGUGAAAUUGUAGAUAAGUUUUUUCUUCUUGUAGGAACAGAAGUAGGAAUAAGAGUAACUUAAUGUAAUUUUAGUUUUUAAUUUUCCACUGUAAUCUUUUCUUUUCAUUAUAAAUGUUCCCUAAUUUCUAGUUUAAUGAAUUUUCUAGUCUUUUUAAUUAAUAUUACAUUUCAGUUUUUCAAUUUCAACUUACAAAUUUCCAUUUUUAGUUCUUUACUUAAUUUUUAACAUGCUUAGAUAACCUUUAACACUCUAAGGGGUGAGAGGAGCUCAAGUCUCCCAUAUCUUAGUUUAGCUCUCUAUUGGUUUAUCUGUGCAUUAGUUACAAGCAAUAUGAUCUCUAUUAGUAGUUAUAAUGACCAAAAGAAGAAACCAUGGAGAGAAAGUCUAUGUUGCAUUGGUUGUGAGCGUUGUAAGUCAAGCAACCUUGGAAGCAUACUUAGGCAUUGUUUUAAUGAUUCUUUCAACUAAGUACAGGCCUAUUGACAUGAAAAGAAUUUAUCUAAAUCAUUUGGUUAUAAGGAUAUUAAAAAAAGAAAAGAAAAAAGCAAUUAGAGGGAGAUGAACCUUAUUAAGGUGGUUCUUGUUCAUUUGAAGUAGGAAACCUUUUUGGUAUAAAUCCUUGCUUUGACCCUAAAUCGGAAAGCAUAAGUUCAAAGCCUUGUUGGUGAGUUACAUCUAAAAGUGGUGAUCCUAGUGAAUCUUUAGCUUUGAGGUUUUCCUUCCUUUAAUUUUCUAUCUUUUAAACUUUGUGUGUAUGUCUUUUUUAUUUAUAAAAUCAUUUUUCUAAUCUUUUAGCUAACAUUCACACCUCUAAAGCUAUUACCUUUGUUGCUACCAAUUUAAAGUUCCUCGUGGAGGCAACCUAACAAUUAUAAAACUAUUAUUUUUAUUUUUUAUUUUUGGUUAAGGAGUUCAAAGUUUCAAUGAAUGAUCUAGUUUAAUUUCUCUUUGUAAAACUUAACAGUUAAAUAAAUUUCCUAGUUUUGAUAAAAGAAAUGAAUUAGAGAAUGACAAACCAAAAAUUAGUGUCAUCACUAGGGAACUUUCAAUAUUGAUGACUCUAAAGGUAUUUUUGUGUUAUGCUUGUUGUUUUAGAAGCUUAACAAGUAUGUUUCACCCAUUCCCCACCUAUCUUUUAGUUGGAUUUUUUUUCUUUUUUUACAUAAUUUGUUUUCUUUGGAUUUUCUUUUUCUGCUCAGUUUUCAUUUUCAGUUGUUAAAUCCAACAUUUCAAGCAUUUUCUUUAAAGUGAUAUGAUGUAUUAGGGAAAUGAUUUUAAAGGAAGGGAACUAAGAGUGCAUUUGGGAGUGAUUCUACAAAGCAUUUCUAACAUUUCUAACACUUGAGUGAUAAAAAAUUUCAAGUAUUAUGAAUAUUAAAAGUGUUUCCUAGAAUCACUAUCAAAUAGGUUCUAAGUAAUCAAUUAGAAGAAACAAUUUUAGAGGAAGGACACUAAGUAAUCAACCAACCCCUAGUUAUCCUUUUGCUCAACACACCAGACCAUCACUGUCUCGUAUCUAUUUUCCAAAUUCAACUAUUGGUGGUACUAAUAGAAGUGUGAUGAAUGAGGGUUUUAACCCCCAAUAACUAGCCACCUAAGACCAUGAGGGAUAACCUACAGCCUAGUUCGGUCAAUGCUCCUUCUUGCUUGAUAUUUCUUUUUUUACGCUUUUCAAAUAAACAUUGAGCUUGAAAUGAUCCAAUUGCUAUCUCUAUUUUAUGGAAGGGAGGAUGAAAAUCCUUUUUCUUAUUUAAAAGAAUUUGAAGAGGUAUGGUCUAUUUUGGCAGAACCUACGUGAAAUCUGGAUCAUUCGAAACUCAAGGUUUUCUUUUUUCAUCAAAGAAAGAGGAUAAGCAUUGGUGAUAUAGCAUGAGACUUUAUAGAAUAAGUUCUAAGGAUAGUUUAUAAAAUAUUUUUUUCACAAAUUUAUUUUGGUAUAUAAAAUUGUUUCCUUUGAAAGGCAAAUUAAAAUUUUUUGUUUUAUAGAGAAUGAAACUUUUCAUCAUUGUUAUGAUAAAUUUAACUUCCUUACCAUAGUUUUGAAACCUCAAGGAUUGCUUCUUCUUUUUAAAGGGGACCAUCCCCCUAAAUGAAAUAAUUUGUCGAAAACAUGACUGGUGGGUACUUUAUACAGGAGAAACCAAAAGAAGCACUUAAGCAUUUAAAAUUGCUUGCUGAAAAAUCAAGGGUUUGGGACCCCUUAGUCCUCAAGUGCAUCUUCUAGAACGUGAAAGCCAACCCCAACAACAUAUAAUCUCUCAUCUCAUCUCUCAAUUUAUCAUUUCCCCUUAGAACAAGAGUUUUGACGAAGAUGAUUUUUGGAUGCUGUAAGAGGACGAAGCCACUGAAGUUAAGGAAAAGGAAACUGUGUACAUAGCAGUUGAAAGAAUUUGUUGAAAAAGAAUCAGUUGAAGAAGAGAACUUCCAACAGGUUGCAAAUAAGGUUAUAAGCUGCAUUUUUUCUUCUUUCCCAAAAAAAUAAAAAUAAAACAAAAAUAAAACAAAGAUAGAAAAAGAAACCCGUAAAGAGCAAGAAACAGAGGAGGAAUGGAGCAAUGUAUUGCAUGAUCACACCAACUUUAUUUGUCUCUCAAUUCCCUUCUCUUUACAACCCGAAGAGCCAUUGGCUAGCUAGAAGCUAGCCAAAAACUUGUAAAUAGCUUUCAUUUUUUAUUUUCUUUAUUAUUUUUGUUUCUAUUGCUUUGGCCAAUUUAGUGUGUAGGAGCACCAUCAUUGUGAAGCCUAUAAUAUUAUGUUCUCAGUCCACUCAACGCAUUUGGGUAACCUUUAUCUUCUCAUAAGAACUCAAGUAUAAAUUUCUCUAUACUCUAUUGGUUUUAUCAUGCUUCAGAGUAGGUGUAAAUUGUUAGCACCAGGAAGGUGCACUAAGUGUAGGACAUAUAGCAAUCAUUUCCCAUGGGAUGCCUACUUAUUCUUUUGUAUCAUUGUGCAAGCACGCCAUCCAUAAUAAAAAUCUUUAUUCUCUUAUGUAAACUUUUUGGAAGAAAAAUGUCUUCCCAAAUAAAACCAUUAUUGCUUAGAGACUUUUGUCCACCCCACCAUCGUAUCAAUUGAGGUGUGGGUAGGUAACCGAGAAGUCUUCUAAGUUUUAUAUAAAAGAAGUAAUUUUCACUACUUUUGCAUGCACUCAAACAAGAACACACACAAUAACGCAACAUGAAAACUCUAAAGAAUGGUAAAACCAAAACACUGAUCCUAAAUAAGAUAAGGAAGUGAGAUAAAAAUGAACAACCGAGCCAAUUUGUUGAAGUCAAGGUAACUAAAGUAGUCACUGCAAUACAGAUAUUCCUAUUCAAUACAUAGAGACAAGCUUAUAUGGCCUUGUAGGCGUCUCUCACCUUCCUAUUCAAUACAGAUAAAUUAAUCUGUACAAAUUGGAAAUGGAUAUCACCAUUAUCGAAAAACUAAAAAGACAAUAGAUUAUGAAAUGAAAAGGGGAAUCCACGUGGGUGGGUGGGUGGGUGAGAAUGAGAUGCCUGCUUUUCUAUGUGGCCAGAAGAAUCGAAUGAACAGGCUUGUUUAUUACAUCAUGGAAGUGGGAGAAAAAAUAUUCAUUUAUGAUGAUGGUUGUGUUUGCCAACUUCUUUAGGAAAGCCACCACUACUGCUUCCUCAGAGACAUUACAAGUCAACGAAGAUGAGGUUGCAGUGGCAGUGGGGAAAACCAGUGAAAGUCCCACUCAACUAACUCGCACAAUGGACCAAGAAGAGUGUUCCAUUACCACAUAUAUCAGUAGACAACUCCAAUUUUUUUUCUUUUGAUAUUAAUAGCCAAUCAAGCCACCAAUAUGCGACAUUGGUUUUGCUCAACUACAAUGUUCUUGGGCUUAUAACUCACCAAGUGGGGAAAAUUUGUUGAAGUCAAGGUGACUAAAGUAGUCACUGCAAUAGCCACAAUACUAAAAUAAUACAACAAAGCAUUCAGUGGAAUGAGCAUUUGGACAGAAAGGGAUCACAUUAAAUUUAAAAGCAUUGACCACAUCUUCAAUUAUUAUUACUUUAUCUUUGGGAUGAUAUCACCAUAUAAAGAGCAUUUGAAGCUAACAAUGGACGAUAUCAGCAACUUUUCUGGGGAAAAUGGAGAUUUUUUUUUUUUUUUUUUAAAUUCCUCAUGUAUUUUUCUUACAUUUUUAUAUUAUCCAAAGACAGAAAAUUAAUUAGUCCUUUCAAGUUUUUUUUUUCUUUUUUAUUUAUUGGACAGAGCUAAACAGGAUUAACAUAAAAGAAAAUAACUUGACUUAUAAACAAAAGCAAGGGAGAUGCAAUGGCAAACACAAAGCAAUUUAGAAGGGGCAAGCGAGUAAAGAAACUAACAGUGAUAUAUCAUGAGUUGCCAUAAUUUGAAGCAACUUCCACUUCGGAAAGCCCAAGGCCUUUUAGCCAAUACAGUCAAAAGGGAAAAAUCCUCAUCAGAAUCAUUUGCAUCAUCGUGGCGGGCGGAAUCGAAAUGGCAUGUGGCAAGGUCAGGAUAACGUUUAACCAGAUACAGUGCUACAUCUGCAUAUUAUAAAAUUGUACAUGGGAAGACGACAGUAAUUCAUAUCAAGAAAGUAGAUAGGGGAUAGUAAAUAUAGCUUACCAUGAAACCCCACCAUUAGAGCUCUGCGCAAAAGUUCGAAUCCAGGCUUGUCUGCGAAAGGACUUGGAUCUACAUCAUCUCUGGUGACGGUUAAUAAAUAUAAAGUCAGCUCUUUAUGAGCACACCUAAGAGCGCUGUGAAGAGGCACUAAAAGUUGUAGUUGGCAGAUAUUGGGCAAGCUUGGGUUUUUGUUCACUAACAACUUGACUGCUUUUAUAUUGCCAGCACUUACAGCGUUGAAAAGGGCAGUGGCGCCAUCAGAAUCCUGCAGAGCCAGUUUAUCACUUGGCAUAAACUCAACCAACUUCUUCACGAAACCCAUUCUGGCCUCUCCUAACCCAACUGCUAUGUGAAGCACUGGGGAAUCAUCUGUUCCGAUCGGGGCGGACAAUGAUUGUGGAUCAUCCUCCAAUAUUUUUGAAGCACUUUCCCAGUCACCAUUGAGCACAGCUUGGUACAGUUCCAAGUAAUAGAUUAAACCUGCUUCAUAGAAUUCUGCAGUCACAAAGCCAAAAGAUGUAUAGGUCAGCCUAGAUUUCCCUGAUAUGUAUAUUUCUUCAACGUUCACAACAUCCUAAUACUAAAAUUAUUUUUUUAAAAAUAAAUCAUUUAAGUUAUAUUUGGUUCUUAGAAAAUUUGACAAAAAUUACAAGGAAAAGAAAGUAAAUUGAAAAAAUUGAAGGUAAGAAAAAGUGAAAUAAAAUACAUCUAAAAUCAAUAAAUUAAUUAUUUUUAUAUGCUACUCAUUUCACUUAUUUUAACUAUUCAAUAUAAAAAUUAAAUAAUUUAAAAUUUCAUAAAUUUAUAACUAAUUUAAUUAUAUUUGAUUUUCUUAAAUAUUUUUGUGGAUACAACCAAAUAUGAUAAAAUCAUUUUCCUUAAUAUCGUUUCUUUGCUAAUUAUUUUCUUGGACUUCUUUGUUUACCUCUAAUCAACAUCUUUAUAUCUUUCAAUAAUAGUUUGAACCUCCAAUAAACUAAUUUCAAUAAAAUUUAAUUUAGUUUCAUUUGUUUUUUUAACAGCAGGUUGUAAAACACUUCUACUUGUAUGCUAAUUAUGCCCAAAAGUUGCAGAAGGACCUCAAGCGGAAAUGGACAUGAACAUAGUUUUUAGCAUCUUACCGGAGCUGCUAAUCCUUUGCAAAGAUGAAGGGGAAGAGACUGGAGCAUAUUCAUCAGCAUUCUGCGCCAUAUUGAUGCUACUACGGUUAGGAUUGUUUGGGCUGUCAUCAAUUACCGAGAUGGUAAUGAAGAGGAAGCCACUGCAGUAAACUCCUCAUCAUGCUCAGCAAUGUCGAUGUUACUGUUUUUAGGACUGUUUGCGCUGUUGUCAUUUCUAGGACGUAGUGGAGAAGAAGAAGCCAUUACAACAAAUUCCUUAUCGUUCUAUAGUAUUGCCAUGUUUAGCGAAGUUAUUCUAAUGUGUAACAGAAAACCUAAACAAAAUCUGCAGUUGACAAAGGUCAAAAUUAACUUACCUCGCAGAUGGAAGAUUAUAUUUAACUAUAUCAAGGCAGAGAAGAUACUCUCAUCCAAAGAGAAACAACAGCAGCCCUUUUUCCCACUGUCUUCAAAAGAUACAGGAACCAUUGAAGCAUAAGAGGUGCAAUGAUAAAGUCUUCCAAGUCAACUUUAUUUAGUUGAGUAUUGGGUAAGGAGUAGAUAGCGUUGAAAAGUUUUGAUAAUUUUUGUUGCGGAGAAAACGAUGUUUUAUAUCCCUUUAUUUCUAUCAGAUAUUACAAUUUUUAUCACUUGUUUAUAAAAUAAAAGAUAACGAAAUAUUUAACAUUCUUCAAUAGUAAAAACAUGUAUCGAAUAUAAAAAAAUUCUCACAAGUGCUGCAAUUAACAUUUUUUUUCUUCAAUAAUAUGUAUAAUAUAUACGAUAUGAUGUAUUAUUUCUACUUUAAGUUUUGUUUGGAUUUAUUUUUUAUUUUUUAUAUAUAAAAAUAAAUUAUAUUUUAAAAUUUAUAUGUGAUAUAAAAAAGUUAUUAUUUUUAAGUAUUUGAUAUAAUACAUUUAUAUAUUUAUUAAAUUAUGACAAUAAAUGAAAAUAAAGUGGAGAGGACGAUGUAGGUUGGCAAUCCUUUCUGAAGUGAAUGCAGUGCAACAAAAGAGAAGGUACCAUUAACUUGAAUGCGAGAAGGGUGAUUGAUCGAUCAAUCUGUACGUGUCCUUCUUGAAAGGGACCAGAUUCUAUGGGGUAGGUUAAGGAUUAAUGUGGGUGCCUGUAGCAUGAAAGCGGAAGGAAUUAAUCCUGUGCACCACACAUUGCUAUGAUCGUUUGCAAUAACCAAUUAUAUAAAAUCUAUUGAAAUAUUUUAUAUAAUUAACUUUUUGGAAUUUUUUUAUCAAGUUGUAAAAUAAAGAAAAUUUAGGAAAAAAUAUUUUUGUAAAAUGAUAAAAUUUUACAAAAAUGAUUAAUGUGGGUGCCUAUAGCAUGAAAGUGAAAGGAAUUUUGGGUCACCAAGGCGCCUCCCAUAAAAAUAUAUCUUUUAGGUCCUUUUAAAACCUAUAUUUAGUAUCCUCUUUCCCAUCACGUGAGUGUCCUGUCAUCCUCCCAUAAAAAUAAAAUUUUAAUUAAUAAUUAAAAUUUUAAUUUUAAAAUAAAAUUAUAAUUAUUAAUUAAGAUUUCGAUUAAAAAAUAAAGCACUAAUCGAUAAUUAAAACUUUAUUUUUAGCUAAAAUUUUAAUUGAUAAAUAAAAUUUUGGGUUAAUAGUUGUUCGUAAAAAAGAUUUAUAUUAUUUCUACGGGCAAGUUGAACAUAGACUUAAAUUUCACUUAGAAUGAUAAACAUUCAUGGAGCCAAAAUGUAAAUCCGCACUCUUGGACAUAAUAUUAUUGAGCCAUUGGUUACCGAAAAUUACUCUAAGCUAUCAUACCCACCUUUUAGGCCAAUAAAAUUAAGAACCAUGGCAAGGAAAUUUGAAAAAAAAAAAAAACAAUUCUCCAGGUUUAGCAUGGUUGCCGAGGGAAUUAAUCUUUUGCACCACACAUUGCUAUGAUCGUUUGCAAUAACCAAUUAUAUAAAAUCUGUUGAAAUAUUUUAUAUAAUUAACUUUUUGGAAUUUUUUUUAUCAAGUAGUAAAAUAAAGAAAAUUUAGGAAAAAUAUUUUUGUAAAAAGAUAAAAUUUUACAAAAAUGAUAAAUUUUUGUAAAAUAUAGAAAAGGAUACAAGGCUAUUAAUUCAUAAUUGUAUGAUAACCUUUUAGUAUUUCAAUCUUUGAAUGUUUUUGGAGAUUAUUUCCAUAAAUUCCACAUUCCAAAAACAAUGAUAACCUUUACACAAUAUUAUUGUUAUUUAAAGUGGGAAAAAAAUUAUAAAAAAAAAUUUCAAAAAAAUUAGAGAUUACAAAGAAUACAAGGAUACGAAGAAUGUGAGGAUUAUCAUAUUUUUUGUACCCUCCUCACAUUCUUCAUGCCCCAAACCAUUUGAAUAUUUUAAUCUUUUAAUUUUUCCAAACAUUAUUUACUUCAAUUGCAAGUGUAAUUAGCGUUUUUACACAAUACAUUGUCAAAUGAAGUAAAAAAGAAAUUCAAAAUUUAAAUUUUCAAAAAAUUUACAGGGUACAAAAAUGUGAAGAGGCUACGAAGAAUGUGAAGAGCCUCACAUUUCUCGUACCAUCCUCACAUUCUUCGUACCUAUUGUAAUUUUUAAAUUUUUUAAUCUUUCAAUUUUUUCAAACAUUAUUUGCAUCAAUUUCAAGUGUAAUUAAUAUUUUUACCCAAUAUUAUCAUCAAGUGAUGUGAAGAAAAACUUAAAAUUAAAAAAUUUUAGAGGGUACAAAAAAUAUGAGAGAGGAGGGUGUGAGAAAUGUAAAAAGGAUAUGAGAAAUGUGAGGGUACAAGAAAUGAAAAAAAAGAAAGAAAAAAAAAAUCUCAUACCCUUCUCACUUUCUUCGUACCUCUACAAAUUUUUUAAUAUUUUAAUCUUUUAAAUUUUUUGAACAUUAUUUGCUUCAAUUUCAAGUGUAAUUAGUCUUUUUACAAUAUAUUAUUGUCAAGUCAAUUAAAAAAAAUUAAAACAAUUUAGAGGGUACAACAAAUGUGAGGAGGGUGUGAGAAAUGUGAAUAGGGUAUGAGAAAUAUAAGGGUACAAGAAAUGAAAAAAAAUAAUUUCUCAUACCCUCUUCACAUUUCUUGUACUCUCCUCACAUUCUUUGUAUUUUCACCAAUUUUUUAAUAUUUUAAAUUUUUUUCAAAUAUUAUUUGCUUCAAUUUCAACAAAAUUCUCAUAUUUUUUGUACCCCACCAAUUUUGUAAUAUUUUAAUAUUUUUAACAUUAUUUGUUUCAAUUUCAAGUGUAUUUAGUCUUUUUACAUGCACAAUAUUAUUGUCGAGUGAUAUGAAAAAGAAAAACAUAAAAUUAAAAUUUUCAAAAAAAUUAAAGGGUACAAAAAAUGUGAGAAGGGUAUAAAGAAUGUGAAGAGGGUGCAUGAAAUGUGAGGGUAUAAGAAAUGAAAAAACAAAAUUCUCAUCCCCUCCUCAUAUUCUUUGUACCUUCACCAACUUUUGAAUAUUUUAAUCUUUUAAUUUUAACUCAUCUAGCCCUUAUAAAUCAUGUCAUUAAGGAAUAUGAGCUCAAAGUAAGGACCAUUGGGAUCCAUAGGAGUAUUGGCUCCCUUAGAAUCAAAUUCUUAAAUUGAUUCAACAUCCCACUAUAGAGAGUCAACUAUACUUUAAUAUCCUAUGUAUAUUACAACAAGACACCAAGUACUUGGGUUUAUGAUCUACUAUCUAUUGCAUGCAAACUCCCCAUGAACCGAUGUUCAUAAUCUAAUAAGGUAGUGUUGUCACCUAUCAAGAUUACCCCUCAAAUCCUUUAGUUACAGAUCACACUUUUUAUGUGAUCAAAUGACAUACUCUACCUCUAAGAAGCAUAUGUCAAAUUCCACUGAAGGAAUUACUAUGGCCACUGAUGCGACUCAUGGUAGCUUAGCUUUAAAGGCGUAUCAACAAAAUUUAUACCUUAAAUACUAUUACUAAAGUAGCCAAGCUACUAUAGCAUAGUGGUUCUAGGAUCGUUCACUGGGAAGGGUUUUCGCAAACACAAUUGAUAUUCAAAUUAGGAAAAUAGGUGAUUUUCUUAUGGAUGUUAGCUUUAAAAGAGAAUGUAAAUGUUUUAGAAAGAUUUAAACUAAUCUAAGCUAACAUUAAAGACUAAAAUGAAAGGGUGUAAAAACAAGUUUCUCAAAGAUAGGAUAGCUAUGCUCUGGCUCUUAUGCAAAUUGGAAAUCUCAGGAUAGGCUCCUCGCGUUGGGGUUGCAACUAUGGUGAUGCUUGCUUCCCGAACCGGUAUGGAUUUAGCAAAUCAAGUUUUAAUCCUUUAAAAUAGCAAAACAGAUGGUAGUGAAUUUCAUAAAUGGUUAUUCACCUUAGACUUCCUUUGAAUGGCUCGUAAGAGAUAACUAAUGGUCUAAAGCCAAAAGCUUACCAAAUAUUGGCAACUCAAAGUCAUUCCNNNNNNNNNNNNNNNNNNNNNNNNNNNNNNNNNNNNNNNNNNNNNNNNNNNNNNNNNNNNNNNNNNNNNNNNNNNNNNNNNNNNNNNNNNNNNNNNNNNNUGCUCUGGCUCUUAUGCAAAUUGGAAAUCUCAGGAUAGGCUCCUCGCGUUGGGGUUGCAACUAUGGUGAUGCUUGCUUCCCGAACCGGUAUGGAUUUAGCAAAUCAAGUUUUAAUCCUUUAAAAUAGCAAAACAGAUGGUAGUGAAUUUCAUAAAUGGUUAUUCACCUUAGACUUCCUUUGAAUGGCUCGUAAGAGAUAACUAAUGGUCUAAAGCCAAAAGCUUACCAAAUAUUGGCAACUCAAAGUCAUUCCAGGUGAUAAACUCACCUUUCAAUGGCCAUUGAAAUUGGUUCUAACUGAUUAAUGCAAAACUUGGAAUUGAAAACCUCACCUUCCAAUAGCUCGUAGGAGAUAACUAAUGGAUAGAAAUCCAAAAGCUUAUCAAGUAUUGGCCGUUGGAAGUUGUCAAAAGGAAAUAAAAACCAAACUUUGCAUUAAUGAACCAUUAAUGAAAAACCAUCUACCUUACCUUCCGGGUGCGAGAAAUUUCCAUGGGAUUGCAUCCAAGCCAUCACAUAACAUCCAUACUUUGAGAAACUAAAAGUUUUAGCCAAUCAUCCUUUGAGGAAAAGCCCUCAGAGGCUGUUUGGCUACUAAGAAAAUAGAAAUGGGGAAGAACAGGAGAAGAGAGAAAAACAGAGCAAGGCUCUGUAUAUUCUAUAUAUUGAUCGAUAUCUAUUACAAUGGAUGCAAGGGAAUAUAUAUAGAGAAGUUUUUCCAACCUUCCUAACUAAGAAAUUACAUGAGUGGUGGAUUACAAGGAGAAGAAUGGAAAUUUAUACAAAAAUAUCCAAAAGAAAAGAUCUCGUGUGGAGUCGGCAGAAACAGGGGAAAAUUCGCACCAUGCAAGGGGGUGUGCGAAUUUGGAAGGUGUUGUGCGAAAAUUUCGCACACCCCUGGAGCAGUUGUCUUCCAAAGGCCAUAUCUUCCUCAUUUCAGCUCCAAAUUGUACACGGUUUGAAGCGUUGGAUUCUUGACUUCCUGAGCUUUGAAACGGUAUAUAGAAUGUAAAAAAUGGACUUCGGGAAGUGCUCCAAAAGUGCCAAAGAAGACUGCAGCUGCUGUCCUCUGUUUUCCUCCUUGCUUCUUUUUGCUUCUCUUUGCUUCUCUCCAUUGUUCUUUCCUUGCAUACUUUGAACGAAUUUGGCAAAGGGCUAUGGAGCUCCAAAGCUUGGUUCUUCAUGAAUUUGAGCUUCCAAAAGCUUUGCCAUAACUUGUCCAAGUAGCUCCUCUAUCAUUUGGCAUGCUUGAAUUGAUUCAUAAGCUGAUAUAAACAUGUAAACUUGCCACAAAAUGGUUAAAACCAAUUACUAAGGACCUUAAUGAAUUAAUUGGGUUAAAUGAAUAUGAUUACUACUCAAAGGUGCUUAAAACCAUUAUAAUUAGGUCUACAAAAUAGCACUUUUUGGUAGUAAUCAGCCACUGAUUUCAUGAUCACAUGCCCUCUGGAUCACCUAAUGGGACAUAUUGUCUCAAUCCUAUGAGAUAUCAUGGUGCCUCUAUUAAGAAUACCUAUUGUCGUCAGCUUCCAUCAACAGUGACCCAAUUCAUAGGGAUAUAUGACCAUUUUAGUCACUCAUAGGUUGAAGUAUCUAUUAAUUUUGGCAUAGACUCAAUAUCCUCUAAGGUUGAGAGUCUAUACAGUAUAGUAGUUUAGUGAAUCAUGACAAUUGAUAGCCUUGCAUCAUGAUUCACCGCAGGUUCUAUUUAGUAUGCAUCACAUACACUAGUACUCUUCAUUGGAAACUCAUCCCAAUGGUCAAGACCAAUCAUCCCUCUAAUUAGGAGGUGGUGCACUAUAGUUUAUACUAGAUUGCCUAAAUCCAUGAACCAACUGUGGACAACUUAUCUACUUACAAGGAAUCCAUGACUUAUACUUCUAUGCAACUCCUAAUACACCCAAUCAUGUACAAUGUAAGAAACAUGGGUUGAAUGCUUAAAUCAAUGUCAAUACACUUGAGGGAUAACAAGGGGAUAGUUAAGUCUAACUUCGUUAUAUCAUGUCUUGCUUAGUUAAGUCUAACUUUGUUACAUCAUGUCUUGCUUAGUUAAAUCUAACUUUAUUACAUCAUGUCUUGCUUUUAGGGCUCAAUCCAAACAAACUCCUACUAGCCCCAAAAGUAUACUGGGUACUAUAGAAAAAAUCUAUUCUACAGUCACGUCACCUUUCUAUACUAUCCCACAACAAGGUAUCACUUGUUUUCUAUAUGUUCUCUCUUAUAGUGGUACUUUAGUUAUUUGGACUAUGCCACCGUCCUAUAUAACAAUAUCUUAGGCGAUAUAGCCAAUGGAAAUACCCAUAAGCUAAAAGGCUUCCUUUGUUGCUAAAGAAGUAACAAAAACCACUUAGAGUGUACACAUUCCCAGAGGUAGACUUGCGAGAGUCCUCAUUAGACUGAAAGUCCAAUUUCCCAGUACAAGGACUCACAAACAUAUAAUCCUUCAUUCUCUAAGGAUACUAGAGUAUAUGUUUGACAUUCGCUCAAAGCUUUAAUCAAGAAGUGAACUAAUAUUCACUCAUUAUUCUUAAGACAAAGCAAAUAUUUGGUUUAACACAUAGCAUUGUAUGCUUAAGGCUAUCCAUUGUAGAGGCCUUGGAUACCACCUUAAUAUGAUCUCUCUCCAAAAAUGUCCAAGGACAUUGAUCCUAAGAAAGAUAGCUCCAAAUCUAAAGAGUAACAAUCCCUUCUUGGAGUUUUACAUCAUAUACUUAACCAAAUGCUCAUCAAUGUAGAUGACAUGGCAUAAUUUUUCCUAUUCCUACAAUACUAAAAGACCUUAACCCUAAGAAUAUAUUGUGCAUUCCUCUAAAUUUUUAUCUAGAACUGAGUAAACAACUAGAUCUUGACAGAUGACAAUAUCCUUACAUCAUAUCCAAUGAGUAGAUUAUCAUCCACCUAUAAGAUCUUAGAGCAUUACUACACUUUCCUGUGCUUUCAUAUACACACAAGGCCCAUUGUUAUGAAAAUGUUUGGUUGUUAUAUCUCAUAAACGAGACACACUGCAAUAGAUAAGCGUAAUCUAAUAGAUUUGAGUAUGAUCACUGUUGAAAAGGUUUUCCAUAGUUGAAACAAAGUCUCAAACUAUAACCUUUAGCUAUAGUCUUAGCCACAUAAAACUCAAGCUUUCCAUCUACUUCUAUGUUCCUCUUAUGGACCAACUUACACCUAUGAGUUUUAUCCCUUUAGGUGCUUCUAUAGGAACCCAAACUAUUUUAGAAUACAAAGAUUCCAACUACCUCUUUAUAGCUCAUUACCUUAAGUGAGCAUAAACACUGCUCAAUGCUUCAUCAUAAUCUAUGAUAUAUAAACUUCCAUUACGAUGAGGCGUUGGUGUACUAGAAAUCAUAGAAACGGUAUGCCUUUAGCCCUCUAGAUCCUAAGAAUCCUAUGCAAUGUGGGACUAUCUUCUAAUUUAUCCUUCAAUCUAUAUCAUUCUUUAUCUUAUUCCUUAUCAUAUAGUUUUCAUAAAAAAAUUUGAUAUUUGUGUUAGCAAAUAUCUUUUAAUGAUCCUAACUAUAAAGGUAGUAACCCAAAAAUGCUCUUAUAUAUCCUAUAAACUGAUAUACCUCUUAAGAAAAAGGGUAACCACCUUUUUAAAAAGUAGUGAGUAAAAUAUACUUGAUACAUACCUUCAACCUUUUGCAUGUUUUACAUUUUGGUAUCUUAUAUUUGAAAUCCAUCAUUUUACCCAUUCAAACUUAUUAGAAAGCAACACUUCAAUAUCAUUUGCAAACCCUUUAUAAAUUAUAAAAAAUAUUUUUUAUUUUUAUUUUUUUUCCACAUUCUUGUUUGAACAUUGGUUUGAAUUUAGGUAAAACCAAAUUUGAAUUGAUAGCCUUAGGUAGUAUUUCCCAAACAUAUUUAUUUUAUUAUUUAUUAUCUAACCCUUCAUGUCUUGCAGAAGCACUUUACAAGUUAUCUAUGCUAUCCAGGUAUGCCCCCUAUCACCUACCUUCUAAAUUUUGUGAACAUGCUUGUCACUAUGAACCGCACCUAUGUUUGAUAGUGCAUGGGUGUCUUGCUAUAUUGUUUCAUUGUUCAAUUAUUUUUUAUAAACCGCAUGCUAGAUGAUAUGCUAUUUCAACUAACUUUGAUGUCUUGUGAUAGUGCUUAAGAAGCAAUCUAGGUAUGCACCCUAAAUCUUCUUUAAAAAAUUUGUGAUUGGUUCUUUUGUUUAGCAUGCUAUUUUUUAAAAUCACCUUAGUCAACCUAGGUACCCUCAAUCAACCAAUUAAUUUUCCCAAUCCCCUCAACUUAGCUAGUAGAGACCUUUUUAGGGCUUAGAUGGGUGCUACCUCUUAGAGGUAUCUUCCCAAUAGGUAACCUGAUCCCCGAACCUAGACUCAGGUUUUUCAAAGGUAUGCUUUUCCAAAAACUAUGGAGUCACUUCUUUAGGGUUUUGUUUCUUAUUUUAUUUUCCUUUUUAAAAUAAAAUAAAAUAAGUGGUGACUUCGACUUUUCCAAAAUUAAUUUUUUUCACCAAUAAAAGCGAGUCUCGUUGAUUGAGUGGGAGCGCAUGUGAAAAAUACGAGUCCACACUACGACUUUUGUAGUACUCCGGGUAUCGUCCUCAUGGACUAGCUUAUGGAAAUUGUCAAUACUAAAAUAAAUGAAUUGCUUUCGUUUAAAUCCUAAAGUGAAAAACACUAUGAGAAUAAUGUCAAACUAAGUAAAAGAAAAUAAAUUAAUAAAAAAAUGGAUAUUUAUUUUAAAUUCGAUUGAUUCAAGUUUGGGGUUUUCCACAAUCCAACAUAGGGUAUAGAAAUAGAAAUUAGAGAAAACAAGGGUCUUUUAAGUAAUAUGAUCUUAGGGUUUUGGGAUCCUUGGCCGCUCAUGAUCAAGUUGAGUUCUAUAACACAAAAUUGCAUCCGAAACUUAAUUUUUCCUUUUUAAAACAAAUUCCUAAAACCAUCAAAUGAAUGAUAUUGAUUACUAGUUUAAGAUUUGGCUUUUUAACCCUUCCUACUCCUUAUAGCUUUGUUUUGGGGUAAAUAACGAUAGAGAAGACGAGGAUAACUAAUGAUGAAAAUUUACCAAGAAUCACUAGUAUUGGGUAAUAACCUACCGUAUCAUUCCCUAAACUAACUCACAAGAAUAGGAUAAAAAAAUGAUAAAUUUUCACCCAACCAAUAAUUAAUCUCAUUGUUAUAAUAAUUUUACCCAUUGUCCCUAUAGGUUUCCUAACCAUUAGGUUUUCAUGCUUUAAGCCCCAAGUUGGCUCUUAACCUCUCAUGGGGGUGAUGUCACAUUCACAAUCCAUAAUAGGGUAAAAAUCCAUAAUUUGAAUCAAAAGAGCAUAAAACAAUAUGUUUAAUAAGGAAGAAAAAGAAAUCAAACCAAAGUUCCCGUCUUCUUCCACCUUCAAUGUCAAACUUUCUGGAAAAAAAAUAAAUCCAAGAUCUCUAAAGCCUAGAAGUAAGAGAGUUUAGAUAAUAACAUCAAUUACCUAAUCUGUGGCACACUCUCAUUGGCCACUUAUUACAAAAAUAAUUACCUAAAAAUAAUUAAAAAUAAUAAUAAAAUGGUGAUUUCUAGUCGUGUGGGGUCCAUUUAAGGUUGAUGGAGUGCCUUAGAUGCAAUUCCCUAGGUAGAGGAGGUGAAACAUCAAAGUGGCAGUGGGUGAAUUUGAAAUUGGUGUCAUUUCGAUGUGGAUUUCAAAUUCAUAAGUUGAAUUUCGAAAUCAUUUUGAAAUGACCCUUAAGCUUUGUGCAUUUGUUUUCAAAUGGCCAUAACUUCUUCAUUUUAGCUUUGAUUUGCACAUUGUUUGAAGUGUUGGACUCUUGACCUCCCAAGCUUUGAAAAAUAUGUGUAUGUAUAAAAUGGACUCUGAGAAAUGCUCCAAAUUUGUCCUCAAAGUCAAACUAUAUAUUACUAUUAGAUUUUGAGUUCUAAAUUUCCAUGCAACUGAAUCUUGCUUCAUGCCUCAUUUCCUAUGUUUUCUUGCCCCUUUUCUUACUCCAUUAUGGUCAUUUCUCAUCUUCUAAACUCAUGAUAUCCUCAUCUUGCCUUUCCUCAUGAUCCAUGAGUCCCGACUCACUUAUUUCCUCAUUUAACCCUUUCUUAAUCUUUCAAAAUCUAAAGUAAUUCAACUGGCACCCUUUUCUUCCCUUGAACUUGAGAUAAGUCUCCAAAGUACAAAUUAAACUCAUGGCUAGAGCCUUAGCAUUGAUUUAGGUCAAGUAGGGUGCUUUGAAUGUCCUUUGGUGCACAAAUCAUAUCGAAUAUGUGCCAUUAGAGCACACAUUUUGGUUCCAAUCAUCCCCCUCAACUAAACUUUGCUAAUCCCUAGCAAAUGAAAAGAGUAAAGAAAAAAGUUAAAAAUAUGUAAUGAGAUUCAUGAAACCAUAUUGACUCAACGUAGCAUGUUUCACACAAAAGAUACCCAAGUAGUCAAAUUUCCUAGAAUUAAGCAAAAUGAAACAAGAUAUGCAAUUUCUUAGUUUUCUCACCUUAUCUUCAUAUACUUAAAUGUGCAUCCAUGUUUAACAUUCCCCUUAGUGUCUCUUGAUUUUCCCAUGAUUGGUUCUUUCCACCUAAACCUCAUGUGCUUAAUUUUGGUGUCCCCUCAUAGUAUUUUUCUUAAGACUUUUCUUAAACUCAAACUUCAUCAUUCUUUAAGUUAAAGAGGGAGGAAAAUUUAUUUUGAUUUUUCUUUCUUAGUUUAGGAAAUCUCCUUCUAUAUGGCUUAAUAGGGAUCCAUCGGCAACUCCCAAGUUUUCACCCAAGGUACCAGGUAUUGAGAACCUUUAUAGGCCACUUACCUUUCAAGAAUCACCCUAGCUCAAGGUAGAACAAUGUUGAAUUUCCCAAACACUUAUUUAUUUAUUUAUUUAUUUUUUUCAAAACUGAGUUUAGCUUAUGUUACGAGCAAGAUACCGAUGACUCCUAACCAGUCGGUUUUCAGGCACCAGGGUUUGAAGACAUAAGGCCAUUACCCCCUCAAAUAAUUACUCAAGCUUAAAUCAGUUAUUUUCAAAAAAAAAAAUUCAUCAAUUUGUUUUUUUUUUUUUUAUUUCCUCAUUUUAUUGCUUAAGAACAACUCCUUUUAAGCUAAAGAAAUUAUCUUAAUCAAGAUACCAUAAGGGUAUAUGUGCUUUGUGUGUGCUUUGAGUCUUAAAUAGAAAAUAACCAUUAAAAAGAAAAAUGGAAGGUAUUCCAAGGAUUCAACCUAACUAUUUUUGCAUGUAAAGGUAUAUAAAGAUAAGGUAAGUGAACUAAUACUCUUGCUCUGACUAUAUUUUUUUCUAAAAUUCUAAAGAAAUAAUACUACUUAAAGCAUUCUCAUGCAAAAUAAACCAUGAGUUACCAAGGCAAAUCAAGAAUCUCAUUAACUAACCAAAGAUAACAUGCAAAAUUUUGAAAAAAAUUAGGGUUAGUAGAGCUUCCCCCCUCAACCUAAAUUACACAUUGCCCCCAAUGUCUAGGAUAUUGGGUCAAAAUAAAGGAAAAGUGAGAUGUUACCUCAAGAUCAUCGAGUGAGAAUUUUGUUAUGAGGACUUCAUAUAAACUAGUCUUGCACAAAAGCAACAAGAUUAGUGGCAAAAGUAUGCAUAGAGAAAAAUAUAAAUGGUGAGAAUCUAAAAGAGAGAAUAAGUGUAUCAAUAUGCUCCAAAAAUAAGAUAGUGUAUACAACCAUAUUGAAUAAGGUAUAUAUAGAAAUGAACAUCAAGCACCAAUGAUAGGAUCGACAACUCCAUCUAUUUCCUCCAACAUAGGGGUGGCUACUUGGUCAAUAUCCUCCAAUAUAGGUGUAGUAGCCUGAUUAGUGAUCUCCAUAAUAGGUGUAAUGGCCUUGCCAGCAGCCUGUACCAUAUGGGGGGUCAUCCCUAAUAAUGAUGUCCACACUAGUGUCAGUAGCAGAAAUGAAGAUCUCACCAUCGACCUGUCCUACAGAAUUUGGAAUAUCAAUAGUUGAGGUAAAAAUCUUAGUUGCGACAUCACCUGAUGUUUGUAAAAUAGGCAUGGUCUCAUGGGCUACUGUCAGUGCUCUAGUGUUUGAGCUAGAACUAAUCACCUCUGUACUGCCAUCAACCUCUAAGUUGGUAUCAGUUGGUAUAACCAAAUCUCCCCUCUGUUUAGAUGGAAUAACCAAAGAAGUGAGUUGUUGUACAGAAAAAGUGAGGUCAUCCAUCUGAGUCUCCAUCUUACUUAGGUGAGCAUCAAUGCAGGACUCCACAAACACAAAUAACUCCUAAAGUGUGUCUAGACGAGCCAUGAUUGAUAAGGUACUUGAGGUAGCAUCAGCAACCUAAGGAUAUGAAGGUUUAGGAAGAUCGAAGAUUGGUACUGUUGGUGUAGAAAUAUGAAUAGAAGGCUUUGGGGCACAUGAAAGAGGUGGUGGAAGCAUUGGUAAGCUCGUGUAAAAAAUAGGAAUAAGUGGGAGCGAGCUCUCUGUAUUAGAUGGAAGUGGAGCAACAUGCAAAGCUAUCUUUCACCUAAUGCCAUGGGUAGUCAACUGUGUCCCUGAAUGAAUUGUUCGAGCCCACUGAUUGAUAACAUAAGUGUGAGAAGCCAUGUGAUGAUAAGACUCAAGUAACUAGUGUCCACGAUGGAGCAAGUAAUAUGAGAGCAACCGAGGCAAAGGAAUGAGAUAUCUUUGAGCUGAAGCUAUCUGUUUCUCCUUGACCUUCUGAAAAAAAAAAUGAUGGUAUCCAUGAUGAGUUGAGGUGGACUCCACCACUCGCCUACGUACAUGUGAUAACACUCCCAUAAGACUAAACCAGAACGCUUUAUAGAGUGUCCACAACAAGUACCCCGAGGUGCUAGUAUACGUGUAAUCCUCGAAAAAGAUGGUCGUGACUAAGGUGCAAAUCGGGCUUCAGGAGGAGUCGAUGAUGGUAAACCAAAGGCUGCAACAAUGGUCUCAGUGGAAAUAAUAUCAGCUUAUCCUCUGGUAGAAAAAUGGAGCUCUCGGUACCCCCUUUCCAAUCCUCGAGAGUAGAGAAUAACUCUCAUACACUAGCAGUAUAAAAAUAUGGGAGAGGAUCCAUCAAUGUGAGAAAAUAAUAUCGGUCGAGGAGAUACAUGGACUAUGUAGUGGGCUCAUAAGUACUAAAUGCCUUUAUGUCAUAAGAGAACUCUUGACCAAACUCCCAUUGAGAUAGGUUCACCCUAGGGGCAUCAUCACAAACUCUUAGAGAUGGAGGACGUGUUGGGCUCAGAGUAGGGGGAGCUGGCCAUGGAUGUGGAAGAGUGGUAGUAGGCCUGGUGGUCUUAGCAGUGGUUGAGUGAUCAAAACGAGCCUUUGUCCUAGCCUUUACAUGCAUGGCUUUAGUUCUCUUAGUGGUUGGGCGGUCAAAACGAGCCUUCGUCCUGGCCUUUACAUGCUUGGCUUGACAAGUGAUAUGCCUCUCGAUAGACUCACUAAUCAUUACACCACUUUGACUUUGGACGAGAGGUUAGGCAUGCUUUUACCUUGGGGAAUGCUUAGUCUCAUUGUCACUUUGAAUAACAACUUUUCUUUUAUCUAAAAUAAAUGGCAAAAAAUAAACUAAACUUAAAAAAGGGAAAUAAAAACAAAAACAAAAAUUAAGGAUUAAGAAAACAAUCCAAAAAUAAAAUAAAAUUGGAUGCUCAUGAAAUUUAUGGAUUCAUGUGAAAAGGUGGUAAACCAUUCCUAAAUUGCGGGAGAACAUUCAAGGUGUCCAACAAUGAUGAAAACAUGAGUAUUUGAAGCCUUAGAUAUAAUUUAAAUAAUACCUAAGUUCAAAUAUCAUCUGACAAGGAAAUCAAAGUGAUUGGUUAGCUUAGGAGAAUGUGUAGAACAAACAGAAAAAUCUAUUAGAGAGUUUAAAAUGUUCUAGAGCUUAUAAAACAUAAAUUAGGCAACAAUUAUGCAAAACUCAUGGAAAAAUAAGAACUUUGCUCUCAAAGUAUUCUAAGAUGAUCAACAAGCCCUAAAAAUCAUGUAGAAAAAAUUUUAAAAUUUUUCUCUAAGUAUAAACCAAAAAUUCUAACACCCUGAAUUUCCAAGCAAAAUAAACGAAUCGUGUGUAACCAAAAUCAAUCUUAUUGUGCUACGCUCGGGUUUUCGGGGGUUGAGCUCCCCGUUGAGCUCGUGGGAGCCGGGGGGCAGCGCUCUCUAUAAUUUUUUUUUCAUUACAUUUAUUAUUUUUUAUUUAUCUAUCCAACUGAAACAAUAGAAACCCUAAACAAUGUUAAUGAGAGUUGGGUAACACUGCAUUUUAUAUAGAGCAACACUACACAAAGAAACCAUAAAGAUCAAGGAAAAUCCAUAAAAAAUAAACAAGAAAUGAGUAUGAGUGUAAUACGUACCUGGAAAGUGACAAACCCACAAUGAAACCCUAAAAUCGCCUUCAAUGGAAGUUAGGACGAUGAACAAGGGAAGAGGAAAUAAGGGGAAAAUGAGAUGAAAUGGUCUAGAAGUGGAAAUGACUAUUUGUAAAGGAGUUUGGGUGAUUUCAAAGUGAGCUCAAAAUAGAAAUUAAGUAUUUUGAAUUGGAUUUUUGGUUAAGAAAAGUCAUUUCGAAAUUUAACUAUUGAAUUCGAAAAUAACCUUAUUUUAUAUUCAUUAAUUAAUGGUAAAAAAAAUGCCCAUUUUAAAAUGUAACCAUUGGAUUCGAAAACUACCUUAUUUCGAAAUGGCUCACUAUAUAAAACAAAAACAUUUCAAACACCUCAUUUAGAAAUGAAAAAAAAAAAUCAUUUCUAAAUUGGGCAAAUUUUGAAUUCACCUUCUAAAGUUAAAAAAUCUCAAUUCUAAAGCAAAAGUUUCAAUUUUGAAAAGCCCACCAUUUUGAAUUUGCUAAAUGUAGCCUCAAUACAGUGUAAAAAAACCCGUUUAAAAAUUCCACUAAUGAUUUUGAAAAUAGCUCCAUUUUGAAAUGGCUCACUAUUGAUUCCAACUUUUAUUUCGAAAUUCAAAAUUCAUUGUAUUUCGAACUCAUUGUUUGUGAGUUCAAAACACCUAUUUCGACAUUUACUAGUUAUUUCAAAAUUAAUAUCAAUUCGAACACACUUUCUAUAGAUUUAAAAUUGCAAUUCCAAGACAAAAAUUUUGAAUUCGAAAGGAUCAUAAUAUUGAAAUCACCCAUUACUGGUCUCCAAAAGUGUCAUCUCCAUUUGAGAUUUCAAAUUCAAAAAAAAAAGAAAAGGAAUUUUGAAUUCAUCCACUAUACCUUUAACCUUUUAUCAUAAAAAUUUAGGAUUUCUCUCCCAAGGGCUACUCAGUUUUGUAUUUCAUCCUUUGUUUUCAAAGUUCACCAAUGAUCCUCACAAGUAAAUUUUUGGGUGACCUGUUGUCUUAAAUAUAGAUCAACAUACCUAUAAAAGCUUUGUCACCUUGAACACAUGUGAGGCUUACCAUUUCACUCCCUUGAAGUUCACAUUUACCUAUAUCACUCGGAUGUUUGCAAGCUAAGUUGCUACAACUCAUAAACUCAUUAGUAAGUUAAAAACAACUAAAAAAAAUGCUAACCAUAUUGCUAAUGACUAAUUGGAAAUGCAAAACUAAACAAAGGAAAAUAAAUAAUAAAAUAAACUAAAACAAAAUAAAAGAGAAAUUAAAUAAAUAAAAGUUUUACCUAAAUUUAUUUUUUACCUACUAGAUUUUCAAAAAAUACUUCAACCCUUUUAAACAUUCCCAUAAAUAAAAAUGGAGAUUCUCCUCUUGUGUCACAAAUCUUUCAAUGAAAUGCUUUAAGCGUUGAUCAUUAACUUUGAAUUCAUUACCAGUCUUCAGAUUUUGAAUAGUCACAGUGCCAUAAGGGAAGACUUCCUUUACCACAUAAGGGCUAUUCCACCUUGACCUAAGCUUUCCUGGAAAAAUGUGAAGCUUGGAGUCGUACAACAACACCUUUUCACCUUGCUUGAACUCCAUUCAUAAAAUAAGUUUGUCAUGGUAGAUUUUGUGUUUUUUCCCUUGCAUUACGUAAAUAUUCAUAACUCUAAUUUUGAUAUGCCUCAAGUUCAUUAAGAUCAUAUUUCCUUUUAGCUCCAGUUUGAUCCAAAUCAAAGUUCAUCUUCUUUAUAGCCCAAUAUGCACGAUGUUCAAGCUCUAUAGGCAAAUGACAUGAUUUACCAUAAACAAUCUGAUUCGGUGACAUGCCAAAUCCAGUCUUAUAGGUUGUCAUAUAUGCCUGAAGUACAUCACUCAACUUGGUAGACCAAUCUUUUCUUGUAGUAUUGACUACUUUGGUGAGGAUUCUCUUAAUCUCUCGAUUUGCUAGCUCAAUUUGCCCAACGUUUGAGAGUGAUAUGGGGUGGACACUUUAUGCCUCACUCCAUAUUUCUGCAAAAGAGUGGAAAAGGGCUUGUUACAAAAGUGUGAACCUCCAUCAUUAAUGAUUUCUCUCAAAAUGUCAAACCUAGAGAAAAUAUUCUCCUUUAAAAAUUUGAGUACCAAUUUAUAAUCAUUGCUCUUGCAUGCCACUGCUUCUACCCAUUUAGAAACAUAACCCAUUCUCACCAAAAUAUAGAGAUUACCAAAAGAAAGAGGGAAUGGUCCCAUAAACUUAAGACCCCAACAAUCAAAUACCUCAACAACACAAAUAUAAUUUUGUGGCAUUUGAUACCUUGUGUUGAUUUUCCCCAAUUGUUGACAUUGUGGACAACUUCUAUAGUGAGUGUUACAAUCCUUGAAUAUAGUUGGCCAAUAGAAUCAACUUUGUAGAAUGUUUGCUAAAGUCUUCAUUGGAGCAAAAUGACCUCCACAAGCUCCCUCAUGGCACAUUCAUAAUAUGUUUUGUUGUUCAUCCUUUGAAACACAUCUCUGAAUAAUUUGAUUUGGGCAAAACUUAUACAAAUAUGGAUCAUCUCAAGUAUAGUGUUUUGCUCAUGAAAGAAAAUACUUUUUCAUCUCCAUGUUCCAUUUUGAGAAAAGCUCUCUUGUUGCCAAGUAGUUGACUAUAUUUGCGAACCAAGGCAACCUCUCCACUACACAAAGUGCAUCAUCAAGAAACUCAUCAUUAAUCUAUGCUUCCUCGAAAUGUGACUCUACUUUAACUCGGGAGAGAUGAUCAGUAACCACAUUCUCUACCCCUUGCUUAUCCUUUAUUUGAAUGUUAAAUUCUUGAAGAAGAAGGAUCCAUAUAAUAAGUCUUGUUUUGACGUCCUUUUUGUUAAGUAGAUAUUUCAAGGCCGAAUGAUUAGUAAAAAUUACUAUUGAAGUUCCCAAAAGGUAGUUCCUAAAUUUAUCAAUUGCGAACACCACUACAAAGAGCUCUUUUAUAGUAGUUGUGUAGUUCUUCUGAGCAUCAUUAAGGGUCUUACUAGCAUAGUACACCACAUAUGGUUUUCCAUCCUCCAUUUGACCUAGUACGACUCCCACUACAUAAUCACUGGCAUCACACAUUAACUUAAAUGGAAGAGACCAAUUGGGAGGUCUCAUAAUUGGUGCGGUAGUGAGUAGUGACUUUAGCCUCUCAAAAGCUUCUUGGCAUGCUUUACUCCAUAUGAAUUCUGCAUCCUUAAGUAAUAAAGCACAAAGAGGUUGAGAGAUUUUUUAGAAGUCGUGUAUGAACCUUCUAUAAAAAUCUACAUGCCCCAAAAAUUAUCUCACCCCAUUAUCAGUAUUGGGGGAAGGUAGCUUUGAGAUGAGCUCAAUUUUAGUUGGAUCUACCUGAAUGCCUUCUCUAGAGAUGAUAUGACCAAGUACUAUCCCUGAGGUUGACAUGAAGUGACACUUCUCCCAAUUUAGGACCAAGUCCUUCUCAAUGCACCUUUUCAAAACUUUUUUCAAAUUUAAGAGACAAUUGUCAAAGGUCUUCCCAUAAACUAUCAAAUCAUCCAUGAAAGCUUCCAUGAUUCUCUCUACCAUUUCAUUGAAGAUAUUGAGCAUACACCUUUGAAAGGUGGUCGGCACAUUACAAAGACCAAAAGGCAUACACUUAUAAGCAUAGAUACCAAAUGGGCAUGUGAAUGUGGUUUUCUCCUGAUCCUCCAAUGCAAUGGCAAUUUGAAAGUAGCCCGAAUAACCAUCCAAUAAGCAAUAAUAGUCAUGACCAACUAGCUUCUCCAAAAAUGACCAACUACUUUCUCCAAAACCUGAUCUAAUAAAGGUAAUGGGAAAUGAUAUUUCUUGGUGACUGCAUUCAACUUCCUAAAAUAAAUGCAUACUUGCCAACCUGUAGUCAACCUUGUAGAAAUGAGCUCUCCUUCAUCAUUCUUCACUACAGUUAUCCCACUUUUCUUGCGUACUACUUGAGUAGGGCUCGCCAAACUACUAUCGGAGAUAGGAUAUAUAAUACUUGCAUCUAAAAGCUUCAAUACCUCAUUUCUGGCCCCAUCUUGCAUUAGGGGAUUUGGCCUUCUUUGUGGUUGCCUUAUUGGUUUUGCAUUCUCUUCCAAAUAAAUAUGAUGCAUGCAAAUCAUGGGAUUUAUCCCUUUCAAAUCUAAAAUAAACCAACCAAUCACUCUUUUCUUCUCUUUAAGCACUUUUAAAAUUUUGAUUUCUUGCUCUUCAGUUAAUGUAGUUGAAAUGACCAAAGGUUUUUCUUCAUUUUCCUCUAAAUAAACAUACUUUAAACCAUGUGGUAGGGGCUUUAACUCUGGUUUGUUGAUCACAACCUUCCCAUUUUUUAUUUCUUCAUUAUUUUCAACACUGUUCAAAGACUGAAUGGUAUUUUUUUUUCCACUUUGUAACAACUUCAACACGUUCUUCCUUAAUGAUUGUAGAGAAAAAAUCAUCUAUAUUUUCUUCCAUGAACUUUUCUGUGUUUUCUUGCACCAAGGCCUCUAUAAGGCAUGCUUCCUCAUCCUCCGCAUCAUCAUGGUCCAUUAGUUGCUUGCAUAAAUUGAAGACAUUCAUUUCCACUGUCAUGUUCCCAAAAGAUAAUUACAUCAAUCCAUUCCAAUAGUUAAUGAGAGCAUUGGUUGUUGCAAGGAAGGGUCUCCCAAGAAUAAUUGGAACAGAAUUCACACAUUUUUUCAACGGUUCUGUAUCUAACACCACAAAGUCCAAUGGGUAGUAGAACUUUUCAACUUGCACCAAGACAUCUUCGACUACUCCUUUGAGUACUUAAAUUGAACAGUCUGCUAAAGAGAGUGUAAUGGUAGUAGCCUUAAGCUCUCCCAAUAAUCCCAAUUUCUUAUAGAUUGAAUAUGGAAGCAAGUUUACACUAGCUCCCAAAUCUAACAAAGCCCUUUCCAUGAAUAAGUCUCUAAUCUGGACUGAGAUGGUAAAACAUCCUGGAUCUUUGUACUUCACCAUUGCCUUAUUCUCAAUGAUGGCAUUGACUUGCUCGGUGAGGAAUGCUUUCUUGCUUAAUUUAAUCCUUAUCUUCAUAGUGCAUAAGUCAUUAAGGAACUUUACAUAAGAAAGCACUUGCUUGAUCAUAUCAAGGAAUGGAAUGUUGAACUUCACUUGCUUCAAAACUUCCAAAAUCUCCAAAGUCUUAUCCCCCACUUUGUGUCUGCGCAUUGAUGAAGGGAAAGAGAAAUGAUUGAAACACUCUUUUCAUCUUUGCUCACAAUGAAUUUCUGAUAUUUUUCACUCUUUCUCACUUCUAGCAUUUUUCUCCGCGGUUGGUUCAUUUCUAGCAGGAAUAUCUUCACUUAUUGCUAACUUGGGCCUUUCAUAUUCUUUCCCAUUUCUAAGUGUGAUAAAUGCAUUGCAAUCUUCCUUUUGCACUUCAGGAACUUCAUUUACUCAUCUUAGAUUUUUCUAUGGUUGAGUUGUGAACUUUCUUUUCUCUUGAGGUAAGCCUGCAGCAAGUUGGCGUUUGAAUAUCUUCUAGUUCUUAAGAUGUUUGAGCAUUUAUCUUAUUUUGAUCCUCAUUACGCUUGUCUUGCUUUUAUAUAAACUCUCUCAUCGUAUCUUCUAGGCUUGAGUUAAAUGAUGAGGUCUGGGGUUGCUGUUGAAAAUUUUGGGAUGGCAUACCUUGUGGUUGAAAACCUUGCUACCCAUUAGUUUGAUUACCCUAAAAUCGAUUUCCUUGCUGCUGAAAUUGGCCAUUGUUACCUCAUCUCCAUGAUGGAUUUGGAUAAUUCCUCCAACUCGGAUUAUAAGUGUUGGAAUAUGAAGAAUUGCUUAAAUAUUGCUUGUAUGUCCUUAAGGAAUUGGCUUGCUUUGAAAACAUGUUUUGCACUACAAGUAGAGUGGAACAAGAUUGCACACCAUGUUCCAUAGACUUACAUAUCAAGAACGGUUGAGUUAUUCCCUCAUUGACUCUUUGUACCUCUUAACCUCCCUUAGCUUCCAAAUCAUCCAACCUUCUCAUAAUGGUUACAAACUUGACUUGGACAUCUAAACUCUCUGGUAAGGUAUACACUCCAUUAGCUCUUGCCCUAUUCAUUGUUCUAUCUCUAGAUGUUUCCUUGACGAUUGGUUCUUCCUAACUUCUAGAUACCUCAACAACAUAAUCAAGGAAUUGAAAUGUUUCAUCAAGGUUUUUAUUCAUGAAAUCUCCUCCACGGGGGUGAUGUCAUAUUCACAAUCCAUAAUUUGGUAAAAAUCCAUAAUUUGAAUCAAAAGAACCUAAAACAAUAUAUUUAAUAAAGAAAAGAAAGAAAACAAACCAAAGUUCUCGUCUUCUUCCACCUUCAAUGUCAAACUCUCCAAAAAAAAAAAAAAAAUUCCAAGAUCCCUAAAACCUAGAACUAAGAGAGUUUAUAUAAUAUCAUCAAUUACCUAACAUGUGAAACACUCUCAUUGGCCCCUUAUUGCAAAAAUAAUUACCUAAAAAUGAUUAAAAAAAUAAUAAAAUAGUGAUUUCUAGUCACGUGGGGUCCAUUUAGGGCGGAUGGAGUGCCCUAAAUGCUAUUCCCGAGGUAAAGGAGGUGAAACAUCAAAGUGGCAGUGGGUGAAUUUGAAAUUGGUGUCAUUUCGAUGUGGAUUUCGAAUUCAUAAGUUAAAUUUCGAAAUCAUUUGAAAUGACCCUUAAACUUUGUGCAGUUGUUUUCAAAUAGCCAUAACUUCUUCAUUUCAACUCCGAUUUGCACACUGUUUGAAGCGUUGGACUCGUAACCUCCCAAGAAACAAUAUAUUUUAUAUAUAAAAAGGACUUCAAGAAGUGCUCCAAAUUUGUUCUCAAAGUUAAAGUAUAUAUUACCAUUAGAUUUUUUAGUUCUAAAUUUCCAUGUAGCUGAAUCUUGCUUCAUGCCUCAUUUCCUAUGUUUUCUUGCCUUCUUUCUUACUCCAUAAUGGUCAUGUAGGCCCUCAAUUUUGUCCCUUUAGCACAUGUCUUUAAAAUUCGUUUUCAAUGCUCCACAAUAGUUCUUUGGUGGCCCAUAGCUACUCAUACCACUUACCUUUUUUUUGAGUCACCUCGGAGACUUUGGUUGAGGGAUUAUUUGAUCCCUUAUUGUGACCCUUGGCAGUUUUGAUUUAGAUUUAGGUUUUUCUUGCUUUUUUUAGGAUAGCUUUUAGAUACACUUGGCCCAUUAGGCACCACCUUAGGCCCACUUAGUCUCACCUUAGGCCCGUUUAGGUAUACUGGGUCUAUUAAGACUUUUUUUUUAGCGUGACUUAUAUAACUUGCAUGUUUGCAUGGCUCGUGGGCCCAUUUUUUGUUAAUUUGUUUAUUUUUAUUUUAUUUUAUUUUAUUUUUAUUAUUUUUAUUAUUAUUUUUAUUUUUAGUUUUAGUUUUAUGAUUAUCAGUCACUUUUUAUUGGUUAUCUUCCUCUUUAUAUUAUUUUCCUUAACUUAUUUAUUUAUUUAUUAUUUUUACCAUUUUCUAAUUUAUUUACUUAUUUAUCUAUUCAUGCAAUUGUUUAACUUCUAAAAUUUCAUGCUUUUGCAAGGAAACUUACUAUUGGAGUUUAAGGAAGGUGGGACUCUCCUUGGAAGGUUUUGGAGAGGAAUUUGAAAUUGGGAAGAUUGCUUUUGAAUUGGAAGAUUUAAAAAAGGAUAAGGAGAAAAAAGGAGAGAAAAUAGGGGAUUUUCCUUUCGGGAACAGAUUUAGGAUUUGGGAGGUGAUAUAUAUAGAUACGUGAGAGAGGAAGAAAGGAGAGGAGAAAAAGAGCUUUUUUUUUUUUGUGGGAGGAGAUUUUUUUUGGCGGGAAGCACGUAUUGGAGUCUAGAAAGGGAGAAGGAGGAAGAAAGAACAAGCAAAAAGAGGAUUUUUACUUGGGAAUUGUCUUCAGAAAGAAGAGAAAAGAUAGCCAUAAGUCAAGCCAUUGCAACCAAAGCUAUCCAGGUAUGCACCCCGUUGCUUUUGGAAUUCUUACCUAUAUUUGAUUUUUCCGUGUGUUCGAUUCUUGAAAAUUUAAUUGUUUUGUUGAUUUUUGGUAUGGACGAAAAGGGCCACAAUUUGCUUUGUUGAGAUUGGUUACUUGCCUGUUUGCCUUGUUUUGAUUUCGGAUGUCAUUAAUGUCUUCGGAAGCAUAUAACUCCAUGCCUGUUCCCACUAACCUGAGCCUAUUGAAAAAUCAGGAGAUGUGGUUUUAUUUUCUUUUAAUCUCCCAUGUCUGUUUUCCCAUUGUUUCCUCUACUCUCUACCAUAUCUGUUUUGCCUUUUCUUCCUACCCAUCACACGGCCAUCAGCUUUUCAUAUGGGGGUGACUCUAAAGCAUGGGCAUAUAGUCAUGAGUUUCAGUAAAGAGGUCAAACGCUUCAAAAUUCUGGAACUGCUAUCACAAUAUGGGAUCUAGAGAAGAUUGUCCGAAGGGUAUGUCAGCUGUUUAUUGCACUUGCUAAGUUUGGUUACCAUAACGUAAAUUUGUGAGUUCAUAUGGGGAUUAGAGAUGUGGCUCCUUGGAAUUCGAUUAUUCUAGGGUAUUUACACUGAGAGUAUAUUGGGGAGCGUGGGAGAAAGCAACAUUGAAAAGAAAAGAAAGAAAAAAAAGGGGUGGGGAUCGUUUUGGUGAAAAGAGGAAGGAAGCGCAGGAAAAUUAGUGGCAAAAAUCAGAGAAUACAAAACCAGAGGAGAUUCUCUUGUCGGAAGGCAGUUUUUCCAGGCUUGAUCCAGAUUGCGAAAUCAGUGCACUAUUCUUUUGGGCUCGGGGUGGUUUUGAAGGUAAUGUGUUUGUGAAGACGACUUUGGUUGACGUGUACUCAAAAUUUGGAUGUAUGGGUAUUGCGAGGCAAUUGUUUGAGAGUAUGUCAGAAAGAAACGUUGUUUCAUAGAAUGCGCGGCUUAAUGUAAUUACUUCUCUACACUUGAUCAGUCAUUAGGGCAGAUUAUUGCUUGAAAGCUUGUUACUAAACAGGUUGUCUAUUUCCCUGAACUUAGUUCUCUUCUAACUUCAGAGCGUAUGGAACUCUGUACACUUUUUUUUGCUUCUGAUUUCUCUUCUAAUGGCUCUAAGUGUAGAAGGGAAGAGCUUGAAGUUUUACGUGCUCUGCAAAUGAUGUUUUCUGUUUGAUCUCAAUGAUGUUUUGUUAAUAUCUGUGUUCUUCGGUCAGAGAAAGAAAUUUCAUGGAGAAGGGUUUACUACAGAAUGGGUGACUUCGGAUAUUAAGAAGAAAACUGGCCUUCGAACUACAGCUGAAGCACAUGUGACACUUGACUGUGCCAGAAGAGUCGAAUUUCUUAGCAAUAAAUGCAUGAAGCCCAGAGGGGAUCUUGAUGAUUUUGGCAACAACUUCUGUCUUGAAAGCAACUGCUUUUGCUGAAAAGAAUUCGGGCAGUGGCCCACAGUAUGAUAGCCUCUACUGAAAAGACCAGCUUUCCAGCAAUGAACAGCAUCAUCACUGAUGUCUCCUCUCACCCUCUCAACGGUUUUCUCUCCUCGUUCUUCUCAGAUGCAUCCCCGUUGUCUCCAUUUCCUCUCUCACUCGCUUCCCAUUUUCUACAAAUUCAAGAGUCCCCACAGUUUCUGCCCAAAAUCCUAGAACCGCCCUAUUUUCCUUGUUCGAAACUGCGCUUCCAUUACCGCAAAACCCUCUUCUCAGUUUCGGAAGAAAUCUGCCGAUUCCGAGCAGGAUGAGAAGCUUCGUUCUCUGUGUGAGCUGUUCUCGAAGCCCGGAAUUGGAAUUGAUGCGUAUAUUAUCCCUUCCCAGGACGCCCACCAGGGAACAAAUUAAGCCUCCAGUUCCACUUGGAGGUUUAUCUGGAUUCAUGUUCUUUGGUUCCAUUUACCACAUAGUACUUGUCGUCGGUGAGUCAACUGGAUAUUUAAUUCUGAAGCACUUCUAUUUUGGCUUCUAGAGUGAGUUCAUUGCUGAACGUUAUAUGAGGAGGGCCUACAUAUCAGGGUUUACUGGCAGUGCUGGUAUUGCUGUUGUCACAAAGGAUAAAGCAGCUCUUUGGACAGAUGGGCGUUAUUUUCUCCAGGCAGAGAAGCAGUUAAGCUCUAAUUGGAUUCUUAUGCGGGCUGGUAACUAUGGAGUUCCUACAACCAGUGAAUGGCUUAAUGAUGUCUUGGAUCCUGGUUGUAGAAUUGGCAUUGAUCCUUUUCUUUUUUCUUCUGAUGCUGCAGAGGAAUUGAAAGAGGCCAUUGCUAAGAAGAAUCAUGAAUUGGUUUACCUAUAUGAUUUAAAUCUUGUGGAUGAAAUAUGGAAAGAAUCAAGGUCGGAGCCUCUAAGAAAACCAAUUAGAGUGCAUGAGCUGACGUAUGCUGGUUUAGAUGUCUCAUCAAAAUUGUCUUCCUUGAGGUCUGAACUCAUUGAUGCUGGUUGUUCUGCUAUUGUUGUUUCUAUGCUUGAUGAAGUUUCUUGGCUGUUAAACUUGAGAGGAAAUGAUGUUCCAAACUCACCUGUUAUGUAUGCAUACUUAAUUGUGGAGAUUGAUGGGGCAAAAUUAUUUAUUGAUGAUUCUAAAGUUAGCCCAGAAGUGAUGGAUCACUUGAAGAAUGCAGGCAUAGAGUUGAGACCAUAUGAAUCCAUUCUAGCUGAAAUAAAGAAUUUGGCAGCAAAAGGGGCACACCUCUGGUUGGAUACGUCUUCUGUUAAUGCUACUAUUGUCAACACCUACGAGGCUGCUUGUGACCAGUAUUCUGGGAGCCUUGAUAAUAAGAGGAAAAAUAAGUCUGAGGCCUAUGGAGUCGCCAAUAGUCAAUCUGGGGUGCCCACUGGAGUUUAUAAGAUUUCACCUAUUUUGCUGGCGAAGGCUGUGAAAAAUCAGGCUGAAUUAGAAGGGAUGCGCAAUUCUCAUCUAAGGGAUGCAGCUGCUCUUGCACAGUUUUAGUCCUGGCUGGAAGAAGAAAUCCUUAAGGGUGUGCUAUUGACAGAGGUAGAUGUUGCAGAUAAACUUCUUCAAAUUCCGUUCUAUGCAGCUGUUCUACUGAAAGGCACAUGCGAGUAAUCACUAAACUCGUUAAAACAUUAUCUUCAUUUUCGAACCUGGAGUGUAAUCCCUCGAAGAGCAUUUUUUUAUUGCUAUAUAAAAAAGGCAAAAAAAAAAAAAACAUGAUAGAUGGAGGAAUGGCUCGGCACCUAGCUAGCAUUUUUAAGUGAUCCAGUUUUCAAGUCUGAUGGUUUGAACAAGAAAAAUCCCCAGCUUCAAACGGAAUAUCUGACGACCAGUGGAUUGCACCAUUGGCUAUAGAGAUUGGAAAGAAUAGUCGGAAUAGAAACAUCCAACAAGGACUCAUGGAUGCAGCAGGAACAGAGCAGCGACAGCGUGAAGGAAUUUCGCAAAGUGAAGGAAAUCAUUCAUUUACAGAUUCGGUCAGAUCAUGGAUGAAAAAUAACAAUGAGGAGUCUGCUUGGUGAUGGCAACGACAAGGGUACAUAUUCUAGUAGAACCAUUGAAUCAAAUCUUGGUGGUGGGAAAUUAACACAGAAUGCAGGAAAUCUGUCAAUACAAAGAAAUUGGGGAUUUUGAAUUUUAUGUUCCGUGUUUGAUCAAUGUUGGGGAGAAUCCAUUUGAGCUCACGAACCAAGUUACCUUAUACAUGGAAAUGCUUUUGACCACUGAAUAUCCUGCCGACGAAUUGGGUCCUUCUAUCCCGAAUUUUGAGGCUCCACUCCCUCUCGGCCACCUUGCCACACAUCAUACUCCCAAUGUUUCUUUUUCUUCUUUUUGUGAUCUUAUACAUUUUAAAUUUGGAUUUCAAAAUCUUUUUUUUUUCAUUAAAACAACUUCAAUUUUCUUCAAAUUCCAUCCUUAGGGAUUUCUAGGCAUAAAAUUUAGAUUUCAAUAAUCUUUUGCUGCCACUUUCCUUCGGGCAUGCAUUUUCACUAUUUUCUUUUAUUUUUCAUGGUUUUCUCGAUUUUCUCAAGCAUGAAUAAAACUUCAUAAUUCCAAAUCAUGGAAUUUAUGGAAUCAACUCAUGCGAAAUUAAUUAGGGCUUUGGUGGGGGCCCGACAUUCAUGAUAUUAUCUUCAAUAUUGUUUGCUUGAUAUCUGAUUGAUUUUUUAUUCUUCUCGAUGAAAUACUUGAAUUCGCUUUAUAUUUAUUGUUGAGAUAUCCUUGUUUCCCAUAGACGUGUGGAUGCUCGCUAAAUCAGGUACGCUCUUCCCACCCUACAACUCUGAAAUUCUAUGAAUGUGUACGUUAUCAUGAGCCAUGACCAUGUUUGAUGCCACAUUUGAUUGUGUUGAUGCUUGUUUGAUCAUCUUUGAUAAAAUACAUGUAAUGCGUCAUAUUUCCAAACUAAUCUCCUAUGUUUUAUGAUAGCGCUUGAGAAGCCGUUCAGGUUUGCACUUCGACCCUCUCUUAUGGUUGGUUUUCUUAUUAGGCAUGCAAUAUUUGAAAUCACCUAGCCUACUUAGGUAUCCAUAAUUAACUUAUUAAUGGCCACACUUCCCUUAACUUUGUCAGUAGAGACCUUCAGAGGGCUUAGAGGGGUGCUACCUUUUAAAGGUACCUUCCCAAUAGUAAACCUGAUCCCCGGACUUAGACUUGGGUUUUUCAAAGACAUGCUUUUUCCAAAAAUUAUGGAGUCACAUUUUAGGGUUUUUCUUUCUUGUUUUAUUUUCCCUUUAAAAUAAAAAUAAAAUAAGUGGCGACUCCAACUUUUUCCAAAAAUUAUUUUUUCACAAAUAAAAAGCGAGUCUCACCGAUCGAGUGGGGACACACAUGAAAUAUGCGGGUCCACAAGUCAUUUAUCAUCUUCCAAACUCAUGAUAUUCUUGUCUUGCCUUUCCUCAUGGUCCAUGAGUCUUGACUCACUUAUUUUCUCAUUUAACCCUUUCUUAGUCUUUUAAAAUUUAAAAUGAUUCAACUUGCACCCUUUUCUUCCCUUGAACCUAAGAUAAGUCUCCAAAGUACAAAUUAAACUCAUGGCUAGGGCCUUAGUAUUGAUUUAGGUCAAGUUGGGUGAUUUGAAUGUCCUUUGGUGUAUAAAUCAUAUAGAAUAUGUGCCAUUAGAGCACAUAUUUUGGCUCCAAUCAAGCUUACUCGCCAAAUUCCGUAUGUCAAACAUUGAGUGAUAGAAUGGAGUGGGUUGGUCAAAGAUUCAUUUGAGGCUCUAUAGUAUAGUCAUGAGAGCACACAAAUUAGAUGAUAUGUAGUUGGUUGCUCUCUUCCCCAUGUCACUUAGUUGAGCAGCAUAUAGGUGGUUGGCAUUAAUUAAGCCUUCGAGACUCUGCACUUAGGAGGAUGUGGCCUAUAAGUUUUUGACACAGUUUGCCUUUAGUGUCAAUAUUGAUUUUUUUAUUUUUUUUACUAAGCAAGAUGUCGAGAGUGUUACUUAAACAUCCCUAUGACAAAAGCAAAAGUUGUUGUCUUUAGUGCUAAUAUUGAUGUUUCUAGGAGAGAGUUAGAGGCUACUAAGUAGAAGCUAAAUGAAUCUGUUUCUUCAUUUAUUAGUCAUUGGAGGGCUAAGGUGGUUGGUAUGAUAGAUUGACUUAAGGAGUAAGAUUAGAUUGAUGUGCUUCUUUGGAACCUUCAGCCGAGGUUUGCCAGAUGUCUUGUAGGUAUUCCAUUUCAAGACUUCUUAAAUUUGGUUCAAUUCAUUUUUAGUGUUCAGGAGGGUAUUGCUAGAGUGUUAUAGACAAACACUAUUCCUUCCUUAGACAUUAAAGGAAAGAAGCUUGUAGGAUCAUUAGGGAGGCUUGGAGAUGUUAACACUAUCAGUUAUCAUCAUCGAGGUCAACUUAUUAGUCAUACCAAAGGUCUCCUACAAUCAAAGCCUACUUUCCUCAUCCAUUGUGCCAAUUGAUUCAUGCCCAAUUGGUGUCUCAGCUGAUUUGCAUCCAGCUAGUGCUCCUGAUUGAGGGAGUAAUCAACAAAAUUUAUAACCUAUAACACCAUAUACUAGGGUAGCAAAGACAAAGCUACUAUAGUAUAGUGGCUUUAGGAUCGUUCACUGGGAAUGAUUAACAAGCAAUCAAUGAUACCAAUUCCAAGUGAAUUGGCCUUGUUUCAUUUCAAGGUUAGCUUAAGAAGUAACACACAAACUUUGAUUGGUAAAGGUUUAGACUUAAACUAACUAACAUAACAGAAGUUUGGAAUAAUUUAGGAAGAAAAGCAUUCCUUAGAGAUUUAGGUUCACUAGGGUGGUUCCUCAUGCAAAAGACACGGCUUUGGUUAGAUGGUUCAUUUCCUCGCAUUAGAGAUUCAACAUAUAGUCAAUUCUCUAACCGGUGAUGUACAGAGACUCCUUCAAUUAGAUUUCACUUUAAUUCUCUCACUGAUGCAACUUGCAAUGGUUUAAGCCUCUCACUAAGCCUUAACCAUUCAAGGUGAUCUUUAACCUUGGAUUACCCGUCAAAAGCUCGCAAGAGAUAACUAAUGGAUGUCUCCUAGGAGUCCAAAAGCUUACCAAGUGUUGGCUAUUCUAGAAAAUCCUACCUUGAAGUCACCUCCCAGAGGCUCGCAAGGGGUAAACUAGUGCAUUUCCAUGGUUGGAAAUCACUUGCCUUACCAAGUGUUGGCCCAGGUGACUCCAAGGUGUUUUAAGUUAACUAAAAACAUAGAAAUCAUUGAAGGAUUUCACUUCCUCUUCAUUACUAGCUAAAACCACAAAGCUUUGCAUUCUUGCACUUGGAACCUCCCCCGGCAACCUUAGCUCCAAGGAAUUAGAGGUUUAGUUACUCAUUCUCUGGGGAAAACUCCUCAGAGAGUUCAUAACUUAGUAAUAAGUAAAAAAUACAAAGUGAGAAGGUAAGGCAGUAGAAAGAAAAGAGACUUUACUUGCUUACCCAAACUUUUUCAGAAGGAACUCCUCUCUGAGAACAGGCUCUCGAGAGGUAUAUAUAUGAACAUAAUAUAAAACUAAUUAUUACAUAGAUAUUUAGUCUUUUUACUAACUUAAAAACUAAGGAAUCAUGUAAUUGGUGGUUUACAAGGAGUAUUUUGGGAUUUAGACAACAAAAAUCUAAUGGAAAAUAUCUCCCAAUGUCGGUAGCAAAUAUCGGGAGGCUUCAGGAACCAUUUCGCAGGAGAAAAAUGGUGUCUGCGAGAUUUCGCAGACACUCAAGAGGGCUGCGAAAUUAUUUCGCAACACCAAGCUAUCUUCACAGGGCUGCGAAGUUGGCUUCUACCUUGAGGUUCCUAGCUUCCUUCUCGCGGCAUAAAUCGUGCAUCGUCAGAAGGACAAACACCUUACUGUACAAAAAUGCUGCGAAAUCACUUCGCAACAAAAGGGUGAUUUCGCAACACUUUGCAAAAUGCUUCCUUCAGCUCGAAGUGAUUGGCUUGUAAUGGCUGCAACUUUUUCGUUUCAACUCCGAAUUGCACACCGUUUGAAGCAUUGGAUUGUUGACUUCCUGAGCUUUGAAAUGGUAUAUAGCAUGCAUCAUUUGGACUUCAGAAAGUGCUCCAAAAGUGGCUGCUACGACUGUCAUCAAGAAUAUGCUUUAUGGCAGAUUCUCUUUACUUUUUCUCCUUGCAAUCCGGAUUUACUCUUGGCAAAUGACUUCUCAACUUUGCCCAAGAUUCCUCAUAGCUCUCCUCAGACUUGACUUGCUUUGGUGAUCAAAAUACUAACAAAAACACCAAAACUUACACAAAGUGAUUAAAAUUGCUUUAAAGGAUCCUUAACAUGCCAAUUGAGUUAAAAGGCUUAAACUACUACUCAAAAGUGUUUAAAAGGAUUAAUUAUAGGCUAUCAAAUAGCACUUUUUGAGUAGUAACCACUCCCCCCAACCGACAUAUUGCUAGUCCCUUAGCAAUAUAGGAGAGAAAAAUAAAAAUAAAUAGCAAACUAAUCUAAAAUUUACAACAUCAUGCUGAAAGGAAAUAAUUCUCAAGUGGCAUGAUGAUCUAAUUCUCACAUGAAUCAUUAAAGAAAUACAAACCCAAAUCUCAACAAGAGUCAUAACACCUAUGCUAAACACUGUCAAUCAAGGGAGUGCGUUAUGCAAACUGAAGUUUUAAAAUCAUUUCCACUUUCUAAGAAUCAAACUUUAAUCUUCCACAAAAAUCUAUGUGUAUUGGUUCCUUAGGUUCCGAUAAUAAUAUGCUAAACUAGUCUCUCCCCCCAACCUAUNNNNNNNNNNNNNNNNNNNNNNNNNNNNNNUACUCAAAAGUGUUUAAAAGGAUUAAUUAUAGGCUAUCAAAUAGCACUUUUGAGUAGUAACCACUCCCCCCAACCGACAUAUUGCUAGUCCCUUAGCAAUAUAGGAGAGAAAAAUAAAAAUAAAUAGCAAACUAAUCUAAAAUUUACAACAUCAUGCUGAAAGGAAAUAAUUCUCAAGUGGCAUGAUGAUCUAAUUCUCACAUGAAUCAUUAAAGAAAUACAAACCCAAAUCUCAACAAGAGUCAUAACACCUAUGCUAAACACUGUCAAUCAAGGGAGUGCGUUAUGCAAACUGAAGUUUUAAAAUCAUUUCCACUUUCUAAGAAUCAAACUUUAAUCUUCCACAAAAAUCUAUGUGUAUUGGUUCCUUAGGUUCCGAUAAUAAUAUGCUAAACUAGUCUCUCCCCCCAACCUAUCUCUUUUCAACACUUUAGCAAACUGACCAAAAUCAAUAAGAAAAGAACACACUUUCAUCAUCUAUUUUUAUUUUUAUUAUUAUUUUUUUUUCAAGGUAGCUUUAUGGGGUACUCUUUCUGACUUGUCCAUGUAAUGGGGGUCCAUCGAUGACUCCCAACCAAUUAAGGUUUAGGGCACCAAGUUUUAAGGAUCUUUCAACCACUAACUCCUCGGAUUUUUCCCCGGACUUUUAAGAAUGAAUUUCUAAUACCCAAGCAUCUACCAUAUGCUAACUCUACCUAUUCACCCUUAUAACGAGCAUUGAGGUCGGUGUCUCCCAACCAAUUAAGGCUUAGGGCACCAGGCUUUAAAGGCUUUCACCAUAUGCCCCUCAGACCUUGCUCGGGUUUCAAGGCAAGCAAACAACUUUCUUUAUUUCAAAGGCUCAUUGGCCUUUUGCAGGGUGUUUCAAUUUUUAUCAAAUGAGGUCAAAUAUACCAAGUCCCAAAAUUGUCCUAAGUCAAGAGGGAAAUAGCUUUUCAUCUUAUAAUCGGAAACUAAUGUGCACAGUGUGUGGAUAGCUUAAAGUGGAAGAACUAACUUCAAUUUCAAUAGAAGCUUCAACAAUUGAACCACUUUAGUAAGCAUAAUCCAUACUCUAAGUCAAGUGAAAAACAACAGUUCAAUUUCUCUUGGUUUAAUUUGAAAAUUUUUCCUCAAAAUUCAUGGAGAAUAGAGUAACAAGAGUAAAAAGUAAAAACUACAACUAAUUAACCAAUAUAAUUGCAAUACCAAAAAGAUUUAGAAUACUUCCUUUCUCAUACCCCCCAACCGAACUGAGCAUUGUCCUCAAUGUGAUUUGAGUGACUGUAAUAAAAGGGAGGAAGUGGUACCUCCUUGCUGAAAUCAAAUUCGAAUAUUGAUUGGGGAAAACCACAUGUUUCAAAAAGAAUAGAAUAUGUGAGAAAAGGAAAUAAGAAUAACUUAAUGCUAACUUUUAACAAGAAAUAUUCAACUUGUAUUACUUUAAAUUCAUUUGAUUACAAUGCAAAAGACAAGUAACACAAGGAAUCCCAAAUAUAGUACCAAAAUACUGGGAUUUCUUUUCAACUAAAAAAAACGAAAUACAUAAAAAUAUUAGAUAUCUAAUAUAGUCUAAUGAGUGGGGUGGUGCUGGGAUUAGGCAGAAGGAUCUACCUCUUCAGUAGGUGCAUCAGCUGGGGCUUAGGGCUCAGGAGGAUGAGACUCUGAAGGAUGAGGGUGUGGCUCUGUUGGAGUAUCAGUGGAGGGCUCUACAGCUUGUGGCAGAUCGAAAUGGACUUGGAGCUGCCUUAAGAUGGCAGCUUGUUGAGCCUAAGUGGCUAACAUCUGCUCUUGGCAUGCUCUGAUGGCUGCCAUCUCUUGAGCAAGAUUGCUUUGAGAAGCUGUAAGUGUCUCCAAUGCACGGCACAACUCUCGAUAUUCAGAUAUAGGAAUGGCCAUCCUCGGCUCAGCUGAUGUGGAUGGCUGAGAUGAAGCAGGUGCAGCUGGUGGAGCUCUAGGAAUGGCAGGAGCAGCAACUGUUAUACCUUCAAGUAUAUGUCUUGGGGAGGCUCUCCUUGCAGCUGGUUGAGGCUGCCCAAGCUGAUCAACUUUGUAGGUCGUCAUAUUAUUCCAUUUAUCAAGAGUGAAUAGCUCACGGCAAAUUCGCUUUCUCUCCAGCUGAGGCUCAGAGGGGUAUCCCAGAUGCUCCAAAAUUUGGCAUAGCAGCCUUGGGAAGAGGAGGGGAAUGCAAUCUGCUCUCUGAAGCUUCUUUUUGUGAACCUUCUCUUCAAAAUAGAGAAGGGCUGCCAUGAUCAGAUGAUGAGGCCCAAUGAAAAAUCCUUCUGACAUCUUGUAAAGAGCUUCUAGGAGGACUCCCCUUCUUUGGGUCCAAUGUUGCAAUGGGUAUAUAUUAUGACGCAAAAAGGCAUCAAUCAAAAACAUAACUGGAGGAAGCUCCCCCCUCAGCAGAUGUGAUCGAUUUGCAGCUCAUCUGGAAAGGGUGUGAACCACCUCUAGCUCAGUAGGAUUUGCCCAAGCUCUAAAAUUAUCGAAUUGGGUUGGCUCAAAGGGAAUUUGCAAGGCUUCAGCAAUAUGUCGUGCUCCCAAUAUGCCAUGUCUCCCAUCGAUUGUGAAAUGAAUCAAGGUUGGAUUUCUGACCUCUUUGGUUGUCAUGGAUUGGUAGAAAUUCGUGGCUAUCCGGGGAUAGAAAAAGUCUCUUGGAGCUAGCAGUUGCUCCAUGUGAUACCUCCUCAGCAGCUGGAAUGAUUGGGCAAGCUCUGGCCUCACUCUGAAUGCCAGUAAGUCGAAGCAAAGCUCGGAGUGAAAUGCCCGUGUUCUACAAUCCAAGUUUCCCUCAAUUGGGGGCUGAGGUAGCAUUGGCCUUUGGAUUACUUCUUCCAGAGCUGUUUCAGCUUGAAUUUGGGGCUCGGGAAGUGGCGCUUGAGGCUCCUGAGAUUUUUCUUGCGGCGCCGGAGAUGGUACCGGCGAUGGAACUGGUAGGGGACUCGGCAAGGGAACUGGAGACGGCACUGGAGUUUGAACCGGUGAUGGAAUUGGUGAAGGCUCUGGAGAUUGCUCAGUCAAAUCGAUGGGUUCUGAGCUCUCCACCCUGGGUUUCUUCUGCAAUGGCCGACCUCCUGACCUGGUAAGGUAUCGUCUUGUCAGCGGCUUUGGUGGCGCGGGCUUCACCGGAGGAGGAUUUGGCCUUGACGGCGAAGGCUCUGGAGCAGAACCUGGACUUGGCUCCUUUCACAGACUCUUCUUGCGGUUCGAAGGAGAUGAAGACUUAGCCCCUCGUGUUCGUGCCAUUUCGGGAUACCAAACUUUGGCCGGCAUUGCUGAUCGGAGGAGAUGACAGGAGGCUCGGACGGCGUGGCUCAAGGAAGAAGAUGAAAGGUCUACGAAAAUGGCGCUCUGAUUUUUGAAACCCUUUUCGCAGCUUAAAUGACCGGUAUAAAUAGGAAAAACGGAAGCCUAAGGGUCAGUUUAAGUUUCGUAACAAAACCCCAAUUUCGUAGCAAAAUGCCAUUUUCGCAGCAACUUCGCAGUGAGUUUCGCAGCUGCAAAAUGAGAGUUCUUGUGCUGCAAAGUGGCACUUGUGUGCCAAAACCACUUUCGCAAUUGCGAAAUACCCUGCGGAAUGGGACUUUUGGUGCGAAAUCACGCUUUUCCACUUCGCAAUGCGUUUCGCAGCUGCCAAAUGGAUGCUACUGUACUGCGAAGUGGCACUCGUGUGCCAAAUUUGCUUUCGCAGCUGCGAAAUACCCUCGCAGAGACUUCUACAGUGUUGCGGAAUGGUUUGGCAACAAAAUGCUCAUUUCGCAGAAGUUUCCUUCACUCUGCGAAAUUUCGUAGAGCUCUGUUUUUCCCCUGUUUUUGCUCUGUUUUGGCUCCGAUUUCGACCCAAUUUUUUUUCUUUCAAUUUCCUUGAAAUUUCUUCCACCUGGGAUCAUUCAAAACAAUUAAAACACACCUAAAAACAUCAUUUAAGAUCAAAAACUAAGAUCAAAAGUAUGGAAACAACUUGAAAAUUUACAAAAUUUACAAAAAUUUUGGACUGUGGUAAAACCACGUCCAGCAAACCCUUUUUCACUUAAGCUUUUUGAGGUUCAAGGAGGUUGAUCUCCUCCUUUUCUGGUUUGAAUGGCUCCAAGAAUGGCUUGAGACGAUAUCCAUUGACUUUAAAGCUAUCCUUGCCAUUGGAAUUCAAUAAUUCCACCACUCCAUUGGAAUAUACUCGGUGAAUAAUGAACGGGCCUAUCCACCUUGACUUGAGUUUCCCAAGAAAGAUAUGGAGUCUUGUGUCAUACAUCUAAACUCUUUGUCCUUCCUGAAAUUCCUUGUUGGAGAUGAGUUGAUCAUGCCACUUCUUCAUCCUCUGUUUUGCAACUUUGGAAUUGAUAUAAGCAUUAUUUCUUAAUUCCUCCAUCUCAUUAAGGUCUAGAAAUCUCUUUUCUCCUGCCUUGAUCAAGUCCAUGUUCAGCUUCUUAACUGCCCACCAAGCUUUGUAUUCAACUUCCACAGGGAGAUGGCAUGCUUUACUAUAGACAAGACGAUAGGGAGACAUCCCAAGAAUAGUCUUAUAAGCUGUUCUAUAUGCCCACAAUGAAUCAUGAAGAUGUUCUUUAUUUCCCUGUUAGCUAGCUCAACUUGCCCGGAAGUCUGAGGAUGAUAAGUUGUAGCCACCUUAUGCUUCACUCCAUACUUGGAUAAUAGAGCUUCAAAAGGUUUGUUGCAAAAAUGAGCACCUCCAUCACUGAUUAUGGCCUUGGGCACCCCAAAUCUUGAGAAAAUGUUCUCUUUAAGAAACUUGAGAACCACCCUGUGAUCAUUUUGUUUACAGGGGAUUGCCUCAACCCAUUUAGAAACAUAAUCCAUCCCCACCAAAAUGUAAGAAUUACCAAAAGACAUUGGGAAAGGUCCUAUGAAGUCAAUGCCCCAUACAUCAAAUAACUCAACUAUCAGAAUGGGGUUCAUAGGCAUUUGAUUUCUUUUUGUUAGCUUUCCAAGCCUUUGGCAUCUAUCACAAUUCCUACACAUGAUGUGGGCAUCUUUGAAAAGAGAUGACCAAGUAAACCCUGAUUGCAAUACCUUCAUGGUUGUUUUCUGAGAAGCAAAGUGGCCUCCACAUGCAUUCUCAUGACAAUGAGAUAGAAUCCCUUGCUACUCAUCUUCAGGGACACACUUCCUAAUAAUCUGAUAUGCACAAUACUUAAAGAGAAAGGGCUCUUCCCAAUAAUAAGAAUGAAUUUUGGCAAAGAAGUGCUUCCUGUCCUGUGCAUUCCACUCACUUGGAAUUUCACCAGUUACUAAAUAAUUAGCAAUAUGAGCAUACCAAGGAGUUUUCACUAGGAACAUGAGUGAUUCUUCAGGAAAAUCAUCAUUGAUAGGCAAGGGAUGGGAGUUAUGUGCUAUAACUAACCUUGAGAAGUGGUCAGCUACCACAUUCUCCACUCCUUUCUUAUCUUUGAUUUGAAGAUCGAAUUCUUGUAACAAAAGAAUCCAUCUAAUCAACCUUGCUUUUGCAUCUUGCUUUGUCAAUAAAUACUUCAAGGCUGAAUGGUCAGUGAAGACAAUGAUGAAAGACCCCACUAAAUAAGCACGAAAUUUGUCCAAAGCAAAUACCACAGCUAACAAUUCUUUCUCUGUAGUUGUGUAGUUCCUCUGAGCUUCAUUUAGUGUUUUACUUGCAUAGUAAAUCACAUAGGGCUUCCCAUAUUCUCUUUGGCCAAGCACAGCUCCUAUAGCAAAGUCACUGGCAUCACACAUCAGUUCAAAAGGUAAUUGCCAGUUAGGGGCUCUCACUAUUGGAGUUGUUGUUAAAAAUUUCUUCAGUUGAUCAAAGCUAUUCUGACACCUUUCAUCCCAUAUAAACUUAGCAUCCUUAGCUAACAGCUCACAAAGAGGUUUUGAAAGACUUGAAAAACCUUUUAUAAACCUCCUAUAGAACCCUGCAUGGCCAAGGAACUGUCUUACUCCUUUUACAGUUGUUGGAGAUGGUAAUUUGACAAUAAGCUCCACCUUUGCUUUAUCAACUUCAAUGCCUUUUUCAGAGAUGAUAUGGCCAAGGACAAUUCCUUGACGUACCAUAAAAUGGCAUUUUUCCCAAUUAAGCACCAGGUCUUUUUCAAUGCAUCUAUGAAGAACUGCUUCCAAAUUAACCAAGCAUUCCUCAAAUGUACAUCCAUAUACGGUGAUGUCAUCCAUGAAAACCUCCAUAAUUCGCUCCACCAUAUCACUGAAAAUACUCAACAUACAUCUUUGAAAUGUAGCAGGUGCAUUGCAUAAACCAAAAGGCAUUCUUCUAUAAGCAUAUGUUCCAAAUGGACAUGUAAAAGUGGUCUUUUCUUGAUCUGCCAAAUCAAUUUCAAUCUGAAAAUACCCUGAAUACCCAUCCAAGAAACAAUAGAAUGGAUGUCCAGAGACUCUCUCCAGCACUUGAUCAAUAAAUGGCAAUGAAAAAUGAUCUUUCCUAGUGACAGCAUUCAGCUUUCUAUAAUCAAUACACACCCUCCAACCUGAAGUGAGGCGUGUAGUAAUUUCUUCCCCUUUUUCAUUCUGAACCACUGUGAUCCCUGACUUCUUUGGUACUACUUGAGUAGGACUCACCCAAGGGCUAUCAGAUAUAGGGUAAAUGAUUCCUGCUUGAAGUAGCUUCAACACCUCAGCUCGUACCACCUCUUGUAGAUGAGGAUUCAACCUUCUUUGAAAUUGAUGAAUUGACUUUGCUUCCUCCUCCAUAUAUAUAUGAUGAGUACAAACUAAAGGACUAAUGCCUUUCAAAUCAGAUAUUUGUCAUCCUAUUGCCUUCUUACACCUCUUGAGAACUUCCAUUAAACAAUUCUCUUGAUGACUAGUCAGAGAUGAAGAUAUCACAACAGGACAUUGAUUAUUUGCUUCAAGAUAUGUAUAUUUCAGCUCCACAGGUAAAAGCUUCAGAUUGAGUUUUGGAAUUUCUUUUUCAGCAGCUGCCUCCUCUUCCUUAUUGAACAAAGGUAGAAUUCCUUCUAUCUUUCUCCAACUUUGUAGAGUAGCAAGCCCAAUAGGAGAUUCAGAAAAACCUUCCUCAAUAUCCUCAAGACUUUCAUUCAACUUUUCUUGCAUAUGUUGAUUGCAGUGCUCCUCUACCAAAGAAUCAAUUAUACAUAGCUCUUCUGGACCUUCUUCUUCCUCCGGAGUGAUUUGCUUUUUAGACAUGUAGAAAAUAUUGAGAUCCAGUGUCAUGUUACCAAAAGUGAGUUGCAUAAGCCCAUUCCUGCAGUUGAUGAUUGCAUUUGAAGUUGCAAGAAAUGGCCUUCCAAGGAUGAUAGGAACUAAAUUAGCUUCCUUUACAGUAGGAUCUGUAUCAAGAACAAUAAAAUCUACUGGAUAGUAGAAAUUAUCCACUUGAACCAAUACAUCCUCAAUUACCCCUCUUGGAAUUUUCACUGAUCUAUCUGCCAGAGAUAGAGUGAUUGCUGUUGGCUUCAACUCUCCAAGUCCCAAUUGCUUGUAGACAGAAUAUGGAAGCAAAUUCACACUUGCUCCCAAAUCUAACAAGGCUUUCUCCACUACCUUUCCUCCAAUCAUGACUGAAAUGGUAGGACUUCCAGAGUCUUUGUACUUCAAAGGAGACUUACACUGUAAGAUUGCACUUACUUCCUCAGUCAAGAAGGCUUUCUUGUUUACAGUCAACCCUCUUUUGAUAGUACACAAGUCCUUUAGGAAUUUUGCAUACGUUGGAACUUGUUUGAUCAUAUCUAGUAGUGGAAUAUUAACUUUCACUUGUCUCAAGACUUCAAGGAUUUCAGCUGCAUUUCUAACCCCCUUUUUCCCAUGUAAUGCUUGAGGAAAAGGUGGAGAAGUUGAUUUCUUCAGCAUUUCUUCCUUCAGAAGCUCCUUCUCUGGAAUUGCAUUCAUUGUUGCAUCAGAGUUCUUCUUUUCUUCACUGAUCUCACUCUCUUUAUCUUCCAUUUCCUUCCCUUUCUUUAUCUCUUCUUCUUUCUCAACAUGUGGCUUGGGUGUUGGCUGCUCAAUUUUUUUACCACUCCUUAGAGUGAUCAAGGCUUUCACAUCUUUCACCUGUGAUGAUUCUCCCUCUUGGCUUUCCACUUCAUGGACACCUUUGGGAUUUUGGUGAGGUUGAGAAGGAAAUCUUCCCUUUUCUUGCAGUGUAUUCAAAUUUGUAAGCCUUGAAAUUGAAUAUUGGAUGUUAUCAAACUUUUGGUUCAUAUCAUUUUGCAUUCCAUCCAUCCUUUUAUUCAACAUACUCUCCACUCUAUCAAUUCUUUGAUCGACUCGAGCAUUAGUGGCUUCUUGCUUUUCAAUAAAAUCUCCCAUUACUUUGCUGAGAUUAGCCAUUGCUUGUUCAAUACUUGAAGAUUGCUGAGAUGGUGGAUCCGGCUGUUGGUAUUGAGUUGCUCUGGCCUUCCAUGAAAAAUUUGGAUGAUUCCUCCAACUUGAGUUGUAGGUAUUUCCAUAUGGCGCAUUGUUAUUAGGCCUAAAUUGUCCAACAACAUUUGCUUGAUCUCUAAACAUUUCCCUUUCAGUUGGAAUUGCAGGGCAUUCCUCCACCAAAUGUUCAUAUGAUUGACAAUUGGGACACAGCUUCACUUGCACUGGUGCUUCAGCAACAGCUUGCACUUCAUGUAUUCUUUUCAACUCCAGCUCCUCCAAUCUUCUUGUCAUAGCUGCCAACUUUGCUUUCGUAUCAUCAUCUUCUUUCAAGGUAUACAUCCCAGCCUUUGCAUUGUAAGCAUUCAACUGAGACUUCAUUUUUCCCACUUCUCCUUUAGUUGGUUCAUCCCAUCCCCUUGAAACAUCAGCUACAUAGCUCAAGAAAUCCAUAGCUUCCUCUGGAUUUUUGCUCAUGAAAUCUCCUCCACACAUUGUCUCGAGGAGUUGCUUCAUUGAGGAUGACAUACCAUCAUAAAAAUAGCUCACCAAUAGCCAAGUAUCAAAGCCAUGGUGAGGACAAGCAUUUAUAGCUUCCAUGUAUCUUUCCCAACACUCAUAGAAUUUCUCAUUCUCUUUAGCUGAGAAGUUUGAAAUUUGCCUUUUCAAGCCAUUUGUUCUAUGAGUGGGAAAAAAUUUCUUGAGGAAUUCAGCUUGUAAAUCAGUCCAAGAGCGGAUACUCCUUGGCCUUAAAGAAUUAAGCCAAAUUUUGGCCUUAUCCUUUAAAGCAAAAGGAAAUAACUUAAGCCUCAUCAAAUCAAUUGAAGCUCUUCCCUCUUGGAAUGUAUUACAAACAUCUUCAAAUUCCUUGAUGUGUGCAUACGGAUUCUCACUUUCCAUCCCAUGGAAAGUUGGUAGAAGUGGAACAAGAUACGGUCUGAUCACUAGCUGCUCUGUAGGGGGCACUAUACAUGAUGGUGCACUCAUACGAGGUGGAUGCAUGCGGUCCCUCAUUGAUCUGAAUUCAUUGAGAUUAUCUUGACGACCUUGGUGACUAUGCUGAUCUUCAGGUGUAGCUUCCAUGAUAUUCAAGAUUACUUCAAAUUCUCCCCUCUGAGGUGUAUCACACUUAACAAGCCUUCCUCCACUGUCUCGUAUCCACUUUGGCAUACACAACUAGUAUCCAGCUACAACUUGAAUAAAAAUAAAGGACAACAAAAGAAACAGGGCUACAACAAUAAAACUAAACUAGGCUAAAUUUUAAAUGAUAAACUUAGAUUAUAAAUAAACAAAGAAAGAAUGAAAAUUAGUAAAGUGAAAGAAACUUUACCAACUUGUGAUGAAAAUCACAAGUGCUCAAAAAUGGUAUCAAUAUAAACUUGACACUCAUUCCCCAGCAACAGCGCCAUUUGAUUCGUCCUUAGCAACGGAAGUGGCAAUGGCACCAUCUGAUUCGGGGUUCGAUCCCCAGCAACGGCGCCAUUUGAUUCAUGCCCAAUUGGUGUCUCAGCUGAUUUGUGUCCAGCUGGUGCUCCUUGAUUGAGGGAGUAAUCAACAAAAUUUAUAACCUAUAACACCAUAUACUAGGGUAGCAAAGACAAAGCUACUAUAGUAUAGUGGCUCUAGGAUCGUUCACUGGGAAUGAUUAACAAACAAUCAAUGAUACCAAUUCCAAGUGAAUUGGCCUUGUUUCAUUUCAAGGUUAGCUUAAGAAGUAAAACACAAACUUUGAUUGGUAAAGGUUUAGACUUAAACUAACUAACAUAACAGAAGUUUGGAAUAAUUUAGGAAGAAAAGCAUUCCUUGGAGAUUUAGGUUCACUGGGGUGGUUCCUCAUGCAAAAGACACGGCUUUGGUUAGAUGGUUCAUUUCCUCGCAUUAGAGAUUCAACAUAUAGUCAAUUCUCUAACCGGUGAUGUACAGAGACUCCUUCAAUUAGAUUUCACUUUAAUUCUCUCACUGAUGCAACUUGCAAUGGUUUAAGCCUCUCACUAAGCCUUAACCAUUCAAGGUGAUCUUUAACCUUGGAUUACCCGUCAAAAGCUCGCAAGAGAUAACUAAUGGAUGUCUCCUAGGAGUCCAAAAGCUUACCAAGUGUUGGCUAUUCUAGAAAAUCCUACCUUGAAGUCACCUCCCAGAGGCUCGCAAGUGGUAAACUAGUGCAUUUCCAUGGUUGGAAAUCACUUGCCUUACCAAGUGUUGGCCCAGGUGACUCCAAGGUGUUUUAAGUUAACUAAAAACAUAGAAAUCAUUGAAGGAUUUCACUUCCUCUUCAUUACUAGCUAAAACCACAAAGCUUUGCAUUCUUGCACUUGGAACCUCCCCCGAAAACCUUAGCUCCAAGGAAUUAGAGGUUUAGUUACUCAUUCUCUGGGGAAAACUCCUCAGAGAGUUCAUAACUUAGUAAUAAGUAAAAAAUACAAAGUGAGAAGGUAAGGCAGUAGAAAGAAAAGAGACUUUACUUGCUUACCCAAACUUUUCCAGAAGGAACUCCUCUCUGAGAACAGGCUCUCGAGAGGUAUAUAUAUGAACAUAAUAUAAAACUAAUUAUUACAUAGAUAUUUAGUCUUUUUACUAACUUAAAAACUAAGGAAUCAUGUAAUUGGUGGUUUACAAGGAGUAUUUUGGGAUUUAGACAACAAAAAUCUAAUGGAAAAUAUCUCCCAAUGUCGGUAGCAAAUAUCGGGAGGCUUCAGGAACCAUUUCGCAGGAGAAAAAUGGUGUCUGCGAGAUUUCGCAGACACUCAAGAGGGCUGCGAAAUUAUUUCGCAACACCAAGCUAUCUUCACAGGGCUGCGAAGUUGGCUUCUACCUUGAGGUUCCUAGCUUCCUUCUCGCGGCAUAAAUCGUGCAUCGUCAGAAGGAGAAACACCUUACUGUACAAAAAGGCUGCGAAAUCACUUCGCAACAAAAGGGUGAUUUCGCAACACUUUGCAAAAUGCUUCCUUCAGCUCGAAGUGAUUGUCUUGUAAUGGUUGCAACUUCUUCGUUUCAACUCCGAAUUGCACACCAUUUGAAGAAUUGGAUUGUUGACUUCCUGAGCUUUGAAAUGGUAUAUAGCAUGCAUCAUUUGGACUUCAGAAAGUGCUCCAAAAGUGGCUGCUACGACUGUCAUCAAGAAUAUGCUUUAUGGCAUAUUCUCUUUACUUUUUCUCCUUGCAAUCCGGAUUUACUAUUGUCAAAUGACUUCUCAACUUUGCCCAAGAUUCCUCAUAGCUCUCCUCAGACUUGACUUGCUUUGGUGAUCAAAAUACUAACAAAAACACCAAAACUUACACAAAGUGAUUAAAAUUGCUUUAAAGGAUCCUUAACAUGCCAAUUGAGUUAAAAGGCCUAAACUACUACUCAAAAGUGUUUAAAAGGAUUAAUUAUAGGCUAUCAAAUAGCACUUUUUGAGUAGUAAUCACCAAUAUUAGUCCACCUAUAUUCAACAACCUUUCAUUGCUCGAACCAGUAUGCAACCACAACUGCCAUAUCCCAGAGCCACUAGAUCCCAUUCAUUACUCAUGUUCCUAUUCAUAUUUUUUUAUACACGUGAUCUUUAUCAAAGAGGGGCAUAUUUGUACACCCUCCAUUCUAUCUUCUUAAUACAAGCCCUAUUAAGUGUUCUUUCAAUAGUCCGCAAUGGUUCCCUAGUGGCUCUUUGCUGCUCAUAUAGCCUACAUUUUUCAGUCACUUUGGAGACUUUGGUUGAGGAAAUUAUUAUACCCCUCAUUAUGACCCUUGGCAGAAUUGAGUUAGAUUUAGGUUUUUAUUUUUUCUUUUUAGGAUAGCUCCUUUAAGUACAUCUCUAGGAUAGAAUAAUUAGGCAUCAUUUUUCGACCACCUUGGCCCAUUAAGGCACAUCCGACCCCUUUAGGAUCACCCUAACCCAUUUAGAUACAUCUGGCCUAUUUAGAUCACCUUGACCGAUUUAGACACAUUUGGCCUAUUUAGGUACAUCCAACUCAUAUAGGUCAUCCUAGCCCAUUUAGACACAAAUAGGCCCAUUUAGGCACAUCCUGCCCAUUUAGGGUCACCCUAGCCUAUUUAGACACAUCCAACCUAUUUAGGAUGACCUUGUCCCAUUUAGACACAUUUGACCCAUUUAGAAUUACCCAGGCCCAUUUAGGCACAUUCGACCCAUUUAGGUCAUCCUAGCCCAUUUAGACCACUUAGACCCGUUUAAGCACAUUGGACCUAUUUAGGAUCACCCUGACCUACUUAGGCACGCCUUGACCUAUUUAGAUCACUUGGCCCAUCUAGGCAUAUUUGGCCCAUUUAGGAUCACCUAGGCCAAUUUAGGCACAUUCGACCCAUUUAGGUUGACUUGGCCCAUUUAGAAACACCCAAGCCUAUUUAGGUCACUUAGGUGCCUACUUAGGCACACCUUGGCCUAUUUAGGUCACUUAGGCCCAUUUAGGCGCAUUCGACCCAUUUUGGAUCACUCUGACCCAUUUAGCCAUAUUUGGCCCAUUUAGGAUCAUCGUGCCCCAUUUAAACACACCUUGGCCCAUUUAGGUCAUUUAUGCCCAUUUAAGAACACAUUAACCCAUUUAGGUCACUUAGGCCCAUUUAGGUACAUUUGACCCAUUUAGGAUCAUCCCCCAGCCCAUUUAGACACACCUAAGCCCAUUUAGGUGACUUAGGCCAAUUUAGGCAUAUUUGGUCCAUUUAGACACUUUGGGCCCAUUUAGGAUCACCUAGGCCCAUUUAGGCAAAUUCGAUACAUUUAUGAUCACCCUAACCCAUUUUGACACAUUCGGCCCAUUUAGGAUCGUCUUGGCCCAUUGUAGCACAUUUGGCCCAUUUAUGAUCACCAUGGCACAUUGGGCCCAUUUAGGGUCACUUUGGCCCAUCUAGGCACACCCUAAGCCCAUUUAGGUCACCCGUUGUCUCACUUCUUAUUGCAUGGUUUGUGUGAUUGCAUUGUUGAACUUCCUUGCAUGGCUUGCAUGACACUUUGUUUUUUUUUUUUUUGUUAUUAUUAAUUACUUAUUUAUUUUUAUUUAUUAUCUUGCCAUUAUUUAUUUAUUAUUUAUCUAUUAUUAUUUCAUCAGUUUCUGAAUUAUUUUUAAUUACUAUUCAUUUGUUCAAUCUAAUUUUUUUUUUUUUUUUUGUGUUUUUGUAGGGAAAUUUACCAAAGAGAGAGCCAACGGAGAUGGAAAAUAAGAAUCACCAAAAUGAAAAAGGAAGAUAAAGGCAAAAGAGAGUAAAACUUACCAAAAGGAGAGGGGAUUGUGAGUUGCAUUAUGAAAGUAUGGAGAACGCAUUUUGGGAAGUUUAUCAAAGAGAGAGUGAAUGGAGGUGUAAAGCAAGAAUUACCAAAAUAAAAAAGGAAGACAAAACGAGAGAGAGUAAAACUUACCAAGAGAAGAGGGGAUUGAGGGUUGCAUUAUGAAAAUAUGGAGAACAUGUUUUGGUAACUGAGAAAUUCAGCACAUGGAGGUUUUGGAGUAAGGAGAGGAAGGAUUUGGUCAAGGUGGAAUUUUAAGAAAAAAGGAUAUUCAAUGUGGUAGGAAGGAAUGUUUAGCAUAUUAAGGAAGAAUGUGGGGAUUGGUAGGGGGGAAGAAGAACAAUUGCAAUUUUGAGCAUAAUUUUUAUAAAAUUUAUUGGAUGAUUGGUUUGUAUAAUUUUAAUGUUAGUAGAUUUUAAAAUUUUAUGGAAUGAUUGUUAGGUUAAAUUCCCAUCUUGAAUGUGUUUUAAAAAUUCGUUAAAAAAAUUAAAUAAAAAUUCUUUGAAUGUUUGUUAGGUUAAAUUCUCAUGUGAGUGUUAUUAUUAUUAUUAUUUAAUGCUAUAUUUGGUUGAAUUUUCAUGUCAAUAGAUUUUUUUUUUAUUAAAAAAAAAAUUGUUGAAUGUUUGUUAGUUUAAAUGUUUAUGUUAAUAUAUUUUUAAAAUUCAUAGGAUGUUCUUGGCAUAAUUCUUAGUUGCCCUUAUCUCUAAAACCUUUCUAAAAUAAGAAAGUCAUCCAAGAAAAUAAAAAUAAUAUAAGAGAAAGGCAAAGUUGCUGCCUUUUUUUUUUUGGGGGGGGGGGGGGGGGGGGGGGGGGGCCCUUUUUUUUGGGAAAAUUUUUUUUUGGCCCCCCCCGCCCCCAAAAAAAAAAAAAAAACCCCCCCCCCCCCCUAUUUUUUUUUGAGGGAAAAGGGGGGGAAAAAAAAAAAAAACCCUUUUUUUUUUUCCCCCCCCUUUUUUUUUUUUAACCCCCCCCUUUUNNNNNNNNNNNNNNNNNNNNNNNNNNNNNNNNNNNNNNNNNNNNNNNNNNNNNNNNNNNNNNNNNNNNNNNNNNNNNNNNNNNNNNNNNNNNNNNNNNNNAAAAAAUUUGAAUUGGAACAUGAGUAAUGAAUGGGAUCUUGUGGCUCUGGGAUAUGGCAGUUGUGGUUGCAUACUGGUUCGAGCAAUGAAAGGUUGUUGCAUAUAGGUGGACUAAUAUUGGUGAUUACUACUCAAAAAGUGCUAUAUGAUAGCCUAUAAUUAAUCCUUUUAAACAGUUUUGAGUAGUAGUUUAGGCCUUUUAAGUCAAUUGGCAUGUUAAGGAUCCUUUAAAGCAAUUUUAAUCACUUUGUGUAAGUUUCGGUGUUUUUGUUAGUAUUUUGAUCACCAAACCAAGUCAAUUUUGAGGAGAGGUGGGGGGGGGGGGGGGCGCUUUAUUUAGGGAGAAUUGUGUUUUGGGCCCAGCUAGGCCCAAAAAUUAAUAAAAGAUCCUCCAAACACCUAUAAUUGAUUGUAAGGAUAUAAGGUUGGAAUAGACAAAAAUACCCAUUUUUACUUACACCCAUCAUUUUGUCUUUAUACCACCACUCUUUACAUGCCCCAUCCAUAAAAUUCUCCUUUAUUUAAUCAUUUGUUUAUUUUUUAUUAUUUUUUAAACUCCUUUAAAAAUAAUUGAAAAAUCAACAUUAUUUUCUAUUUUUAAAUUAUAAAUAAAUAAAAAUUAUAUUAAUGAUUCAAAAAUUAUUUUGGAACAUACUUUUGAAAAAAAUAUUAAUUUAAAUGAAUAAAAAUUAUUUUUUACAUUUUACAAGUAAAUAAUUUAAUGAUUAAAACACUAUUUAAAAUAAAUAUAUUUACUAUUUUUUUUCUUUUAUACUAAAAACUAUUUAAAUUUUUUAUUUAUUAUUAUUAUAAAAUAAAAAGCUUAAAGUUUUUUUUUUUUUAAUCUUUUUCUUUCCAUAGUUUAAUAAUUUUUUGAACAUAGACUUUUGUAAUAAGUUAUAUGAAUGUUCCAAAUUUAUUUAUUAAGGAAUUUUUUAAUGAUUUGAAUUAAUUGAAAAUUUAUUGAAAUGAGAAAAAAGAAAAAGAGAGAAAGAGGAUAGAUGAAGAGUUUUUAUUUUAAAUAUCCAACUAAAAUGUUUUCGUAUUUAGAAAUGGAUUAUAUCAAUACAUAGUAUAGUAGAGAUUGAUUUUGAACAUAGACUUUUGUAAUAAGUUAUAUGAAUGUUCCAAAUUUAUUUAUUAAGGAAUUUUUUAAUGAUUUGAAUUAAUUGAAAAUUUAUUGAAAUGAGAAAAAAGAAAAAGAGAGAAAGAGGAUAGAUGAAGAGUUUUUAUUUUAAAUAUCCAACUAAAAUGUUUUCGUAUUUAGAAAUGGAUUAUAUCAAUACAUAGUAUAGUAGAGAUUGAUUUUUUUCUCAUACAAAGGGUUAAAUGAUAUGUUUACUCAUUUUAAAUAAAAACAAGUAGUUAAAAAUUAUAUAGAUUAUGUUUGAGUUUGGUUUUAAAAUAUUUUUUCUAGUUUUUAUUAUUUUUUAUUUUAAAAAAUUAUUUUUAUUUUCUAUAUUGUCUCUUUUUGAAAAUACAUUUAAUUAAAAAAAUGAAAAAUAUUUUUAAAAAUGAAAAUUGAAGACCUUGUUUAAUAUUAAGAUAAUAAAAAGAAUUAAAUUUCAUUUAUUAAUUAUUCUUUUUUAUUUUUAAAAUAUAAUAUGUUCACAAUUAAAUAAAGGAAUUGGUCAAUUGUAUAUUUUUUUCACAAAAAUGUAAUAUGUUCAUAAAAAAAUUGGAUUGAAGUUUUUCAUCAUUUUUUUAAUCAAACUACUAGAAUCAUGUUUAAUACAAAUAUAGGCAUAUAUGCACUACGGGAAUAUGAAAUUUGUGUCACUAAACAAGAGUAUUUACUAACUGUAUAAGGGAAAUGUACUAAGUGUACAAGCAGUGUAUAAGAUUACCAUUUAUAAAAGAUUUCAAUCUAUUUUAAACCACUCCUUUAUUUUCCUUGUCACCCACAAAUUGAAUACUCAUGUCAUGCAUUUUAUUUAACUCCCAUAUGGAAAUUCCGAUACUUUCCCCAAUAAUGAUGUUUGGGAAAAAAAAAAACUAACCCUAAUUCAUCCAUCCUUUUAUUAGUUAAACCAUUAGAAAUAUGGUUAACACACCUACAUGGACAUAUUACUUAGGAUAGAUAUAUUGUACAAUGGUAUUACACUAAUUGUACAAGGGAAAUGUACUAAGUGUACACGGAAAAUGUACUAAGUGUACAAGGGUGUACAAGACUAUCAUCUAUAAAAAAAUUUAAUCGAUUUUGAAUCACUUUUUCAUUUUCCUUGUCACCCAUAGAUUGCAUACCUACGUCAUGCAAUUUAUUUAACUUUCACAUGAAAAUUUCGAUACUUUUCUUAGUAAUAAUGUUUGGGGAAAAAAAUUUAAUCAUAAUUCAUCCACCAUUUUGUUAGCCAAACCAUUAGAAAUAAGAUUAAUAUAUUUACGUGGACACACAACUUAAGAGGGAUAUAUUGCACCAUUGUACAAUGAUGUUACACUAACUGUACAAGGGAAAUGUAUUAAGUGUAUAAGGGAAAUAUACUAAGUGUACAAGGGUGUACAAGGCUACCAUUUGUGAAAGAUUUUAGUUGAUUUUGAAUCAUUUCUUUAUUUUUUUUGUUACCCAUAAAUUGUUUAUGAAAUUUGCACUAUUAUAUAAGGGUGUUACACUAACUAUAAAAGAGUAUUCCACUCACUGUGUAAGGCAAUGUACUAACUGUAUGGGGUAAAUGUACUAAUUAUACAAGGGUGUACAAGGUUAUUUUUUAUGCAAGAUUUUAAUCAAUUCUGAACUAUUUUUUUUCUUGUCACCUAAGGAUUGAACACUUUUCCCCCACACAUUCCUUCACCUAAAAAUUGUUUUAAUUUUAAAUUUUAAAUUUCGUCAUCCAAAAUUUGUAAUUGCAUAUUUCAUUUAAGUAGUUUUAACAAUAUUUUUUCUUACUACAUUUACAUCCUAUAUAAAGGAAAAUUAACCAUAAUAUUUAGGUAUUACCUUUUUUUUUUGUGAAAUCAAAUUAAUAUAAAUGGAUAACACAUUAAUGUCAUUGUUUCAAAUAACUUAAGACAAUAUAAACAACAUAUAAUAACUGUUGAGGAAAAAUUAUGAAUAUUUUUUUACUAAACUAUGUCAUUUAGAUCUUCUCUACCAAAAUUAAAACAUAGGAAAUAAAAUUAAAAUUAAUCACAUUUAAAGUGUUUAUUACAAGUAAACCGAAUGAAAUAUAUAUUUUUACUAUUUUACCUUUAUAAACAUAAUGUUAGCAGAUAUUAAAAAAAAUCAUAUUUAAAUAGAAUUAAAAAGGAUAAAAAAUUAUCUUUGUAACAUUUGUAAUUUUUUUUUUAUAAAAAAUCAUUAAUUUAAAUUAUCAAGUUAAUUUAAAAUAUUUUUUUGUUGUAAUUAUAGUUUUAAAGAUUCUACGAUUUUUAUAUUAUUACUUUUAAUUUAUUUUCUUUGAUUUUUUAUUUUAAAUUUCAUCUAAACUUGUUUUUUCUUACAUUUAUAUGUUUUCUAUUAUAUCCUUAUUUAAAGUGAUUCUCAUCUAAUUUGUAUUCCAUUAUAUUCUCUUUUCAAUUUUAAUGUGUUGUUAUACCUCUUUACAUAUCAAAAGAUUUUAUUAUUUUUCAUCUACAAAACUUUAUACAAAAGAUAUCAUGUACGAGGAAAAAAAAAUAAAAAAAGAGAAAAUUAUGAUAUAAUUUACAUACACAUCUCUUAAUAUGAUACAUUUACUUGACUUAAUGACAUCAUGCUUUAAUAAUUUAAAUCAUGUCAAGUCCACAUCUAUUUUAGAUUUAAAAAGGCAUUUGAAUAUUUUACAAAUUAUUAAGUUAUAAUACAUUAUUCAAUUAAAAAUUAAUUAUCACCAUUAGUUAAAAGAUGAUCAUGUUACAAAAUAAUAUAUUAAAACAAUAUCAAUGUAUUGUCCAAAAAAUAGAGAAAAUAUUCAAAUAAUUGUCUACAACCUUAAAGAUAUUUAUAUAUAUAUUGGAUAAAAAAGAAUAAUAAUAUUUUUUAAGGUGCUUAAAAAUUAUUUAUUAUAUAUUUUGUAAGUUUAAAAAAAAAUAUUUUAUGAGGUAUUUAAAAAAAAUUUACUUUAAAAAUAUAGUAAUAAUCCUUUUCAACCAUUGAUUACCAAUAUUUAAUUUAUUAGGCAUGGUUUUUGGGAGAAAAAUAAUUGAUGAAAAUAGUAACACCUUUCUAGAAAAGAAUUAAUUUACAUGUCCCACCGAUUAAUAUGUGAGAGAAAAAGAUAAGGUGAAUGAUGAAAGAGAGAGGGAAAAAAAGAAUGAAAGAGAGUGGGAAGUUAGUUGUUUUCUUUUUCUUUUUGACAAUAAAGGGCAUUUUCGGAAAAUUAAAUAUUUCAUAUCCUUCUUUUUAAUUUAUAGAUUUUCUUUAGGUGUUGGGUUUAUGAAGAUCUUUUAUCAAUUUUUGGGCCCAGCUGGGCCCAAAACACAAUUCUCCCCUUUAUUUAUUUAUUUAUUAAUUUAUUUUUGUCAAUCUCCUACAAGAUGAUAUCCCACUUACACCCUUACGCAACAAGAGCGCGUGGGACACCCACUUCGACCCAACAACUUUAUGAUGAAUCUGAACCCUGUGGACAAUAAUACCAUGUGCAUAUAUAUAUACGAGCCUGUAACACUCAUUUAUAAGUUUAAAUUCAUUCAAAUGAGUCAGUAGUAAAAGCUAUGAAAUAUAUCGAACCCCACCAUUUUUUUUUCUUUUUUUUCGUUUUUAAAUUUUCUGGGGUCCCUCAGUUACUUUACAGAAGGUGGCAGAGAAAGAGAAACGAAUAAUCACUUUCCAUGCUGUUGUCUUCUUGUUGUAAGGGUAAAAUAAGAGGCAAAGAAAUUAAUGAAUUCAUUAUCUUACCUUUCUAUUGAAAUGCCUUCCAAGAAAUGUUUUGAGAGCUUUGAGUUUAGUCUAGAAUAAUGGUAGUAUAUUUCAAUGAAUAUGCAUUCUAGAAAAAUAUAUACCUUUAGCAUAUACCAAGAUAUCCUAGGGUUUCAAGUCAAGUAACAACCAAUCAAAACAAAAUCACUCUUCUUGGAAAACAUGGAUGUUCGAGUAUCCAGCUCUUUUCUUUAAUUGUGCUAACAUCGGCUCUCUCUCCAGCAUGCCAGUGUGCGUCCCAGGCAGCUCUUUUGUGCUUUAAAUGAAUUGAAUUCUUGAUCUUAUUCUGCCAUUGUUUUGGCUCAAACCUAAGAAGUAUAUUUACCCUAACUUCUUUUCAUGUCUUCAACUUACUCAAAGGCUCACAAGUCCCAUUGGAAGUAAGCAGUUAAGGAUUUUUGAACUAAAAUUAUCAAACAUAGUCUAAUAGGUUAUACUCUUUUCAACAGUUUAAAUUGUUUUUGUUGAUAGAUUAUUUGAUUUUUCUCCUAGCUGGCCCAGUUGUUUAUUUCAAAGUGCAGUUUAGAACAACUUUCAACAUUUGAAUAAGGAAAAGAAAAUAUAUAGAUGAAUUGACUGAUUCAAAGGGCAUAUUACAGUCAGUCUGUGCGUAACAGGGCGGGUGACUUCAAAUGGAUACACUGAGGUCUAUCUGUGCGUGUUAGGCAUUCAUGAACCUGUUUUCUUCGGUCAAAGAGCAGCCAAUACAAGGAAAAAACAUGGCGAAAAUUAAGUGAAGUGUGACUUCUGGAAGAUUUAUCACCUUCGUAAAUGAAGUGAGAGUUUUGACCGAAUUGAAGUAGAAAAAUUAAAUACAAUGGCCGGACCGGCUCCAACUAUUAAGAUUAUAAGUGCCACACAGAAAGAACAGAAAGAACGGUCCUAGUAAAUGAAGUAUAAAGACAUGUAAACAUAAAAUUGUCCAGGUAAAUGAAGACAUGCAAUGAAGAAGAAAUCUGUUGCAGACUACACAAAUCACAACCACAUAAAUCAACCACCCACCCAUUUUUCAAACUUCCAGCUCUCAUGCACUGGCACAGUUCGGUCCUUUCAAAGAUUAAAGUAGGCAUCUAAAAUUUUAUUGGUUUCAAGAAAUUUGGUGCACUAGGCUCCUAGAAAUUAAACAAUUGAAAAGUAAAAACAGUACUUUUCAAAGUGGAAGUAUACUAAUUUCAAAGUGGAACUACCACUGAAAUCUAAACCUUUGGUUUAAUUUUAAAAAGAGGGAAAAAAAAAACAGAAAGGAAAAGAAAAAUAGUUAGGAAGAGAAGAGCAGAAAACAAACAACUGCUUUAGGGCAGUAUAAAAAAGUUGGCCAUAAUUUGAAGAGAUCAGCAAACUUUAAUACUAUGAUGAAAAGUAAUAACUCAUAUCGCGGAGCAAUAUCAUCGGAGAGGCUGAUUGGUCUUGAAUAUGCUUCUUUUAACAUCAUGGACAUCUCUUUGAAGUCCCCAUGUAAUAGCCUAUAAGAAUUCCCAGCCAGGCCUUGCUCUCUAAGGCAUCUUUCUAACCUCUUUGGCCUCAACCACACCCAAUUCAGUAGCCUCCAUAAACAGCUUAUGAGCACAGUAAGGAACCCAAAAGAAAUUGCAAUUGAGCUAUGCUUCAUUUCCAGUUUGAGGGACUUGUAUCAGGAGAGGUGUGUUAAAUCACUUCAGAGUGAGAGAAGGACUUUAUGCUGCCGAUAUGUAUAAAUUGGCCCCUAUUCUAUUCCCUGGUGCCGGCGAACAUAGAAGAUUUCGUCAAUGCCUAAUGGGGAGAAGAAGGUCUAGUAUUUUAAAAUCUAUAAAUUAUCUAUUUUAAUUGUCUCCAUCAAUAUGGCUUUUAAACUUCUCAACGAAUUAUUAAGUUAUUCUAUUUGAUACAUUUCAAAGUUUGUGCAAUCAUCACUGCUUAUUAAAAACUAUAUAUGCCAUGAAUGUUGAAGGCAAAAUUUGAGCAUACGGAAUAUGGAAUUCUAUUUGACGGACCAGCUUUCACUUGUGAGUCGAUGGAGCAUGUGGAUGCUCACUUUCAGAGCCUCAAGGGGCAGCUCGCAUCCCUCACAUCUUGGCAGAUGUCGCUGGGUGCUUUCAGCUCUACAAAUCCAUCUGACAUCGAAAUAUAUGUACUUAGAAGCUAUUUUAAUUAUCAACACCAUAGAAUUGGCAUCGAAAGAAAAAUUAAGAUUUAACCAAUUCUACAGAUAACUACCAAUUCAAUUAUGCUUUGGGCACAAAUGACUGAUAAAAAUUCAUCCAAAAGUGCCUUAACUUGAAACGUCAUAGACUAAUUUCAACACCUGAAAAAAAAGGUAAAAAUUUGGCAUAAAUUAAAAGUUAUUCACAGCUCCCAGAAAUUAAACAAUUGAAAAAUAGAAACAGUCCUUUUCAAAGUGGAAGUAUAUUAAUUUCUUGAUGAAAGAAAUUGCAAUACUGUUAGCAAAGAUUAAGAACUAGCAGUGAAAUCUAAAACUUCGGUGUAAUUUAAAAAAGAAGAGAAAAAAGACAGAAAGGAAAAGAAAAAUAGUUAGGAAGAGAAGAGCAGAAAAUAAACAACUGCUUUGGGGCAGUAUAAAAAAGUUGACCAUAAUUUGAAGAAAUCAGCAAACUUUAAUACUAUGAUGAAAAGUUAUAACUCAUAUCGGUACCAUAUUUCUUAAUGAAACGACAAUGGAAGGGCAGGACACAUAGAGCAAUAUCAUCGGAGAGGUUGAUUGGUCUUGAAUAUGCUUCUUUUAACAUCAUGGACAUCUCUUUGAAGUCCCCAUGUAAUAAUAGCCUAUAAGAAUUCCCAGCCAGGCCUUGCUCUCUAAGGCAUCUUUCUAACCUCUUUGGCCUCAACCACACCCAAUUCAGUAGCCUCCAUAAAUAGCUUAUGAGCACAGUAAGGAACCCAAAAGAAAUUGCAACUGAGCUAUGCUUCAUUUCCAGUUUGAGGGACUUGUAUCAGGAGAUGUAUGUUAAAUCACUUCAGAGUGAGAGAAUGACUUUAUGCUGCCGAUAUGUAUAAAUUGGCCCCUAUUCUAUUCCCUGGUGCCGGCAAACAUAGAAGAUUUCGUCAAUGCCUAAUGGGGUGAAGAACGUCAAUGCCCCUAUUCUAUUUUAAUUGUCUCCAUCAAUAUGGAUUUCAAAACUUCUCAAUGAAUUAUUAAUUUAUUCUAUUUGAUACAUUUCAAAGUUUGUGCAAUUAUCACUGCUUAUUAAAAACUAUAUAUGCCAUGAAUGUAGAAGGCCAAAUUUGAGCAUACGGAAUAUGAAAUUCUAUUUGAGUGGAUGCUCACUUGUGAGUCGAUGGAGCAUCAUCACUGCUUUCACUUGUGAAUCGACGGAGCAUCAUCACUGCUUUCACUUGUGAGUCGAUGGAGCAUGUGGAUGCCCACUUUCAGAGCCUCACGGGGCAGCUCGCAUCCCUCACAUCUUGGUAGAUGUCACAGGGUGCUUCCAGCUCUACAACUCCAUCUGAUCUGGACUUUUUGAUACUUCAUGUUUUUUAUUUUUUAUUUUUUAUUUGUGGAUAAGUUUAUUUUGUACACCUAACCCAUCUUGGCUCAGUUUAUCAUAUAUUUUGUUUGUCUAGAUGUACUUUUAUUUUCUUAUCUCUUGUAUCCAGAACCUUUUUUACUAUAUAUGUCCAUGUGUUUGCUUUUCUUAUCUCCUUUUCAUAUGCUUACUGCUUUAUCAUGCUCUUUGUCAUUUUUUGCAACAAAAAGGGGGAGAUGGAUUGUUGAUUUGAUUAAGUGUUUUGACAUCUGUUUCAUGACUUGCAUCCCCUUACUCGGUUACCUAAUUUGAUAAAAUUGAUCAGUUAUCUUUCUUUCCACACUACUUUAUCUGGGUAUGUUGUUUAGUUUGUGCAAGUUCUAGGUACUAGGGUAUUGCUCAUUUUUUGGAUGUGGCUUCUAGUCCUUUGCACGUUAAAUGAUGAAUUGGUUUAGACAAGAGCUAUUGAGAGAUUUGUAAACUCCAUUCGAGAGUAUUAAGGGGUUUAUCCAAUUUGUAUUUUAUCACAAAAUUGCCAAAGGGAGAGAUUGUUCGUACAUCAGGCAAUGUAGUUUAAAAUUGUCGAUUUUGUUCUAUUCAUUUUGGUUUAGGAUCUUUCUAGAUUGUAUCACUCCCCAUUGAAGACUCAAGGUUAUAAUUAAUUGAUAAACCAGAAUGACAUAGGUAAGUGUAAAAAGAUUUGGAAAAGGCAAGUUAGUGUUUGGUAUGAAAUGGCAUGAAUUGAGCGGUUUAAAAUUGAGCAAAAUGAUUUUCUAACCGGUUUAAAAAAUGCGUAAAGCGCUUAAACACUCUAAGAGCAUUUGAGCCCUAGCAACAUAAUUCUCUACAACUUUGGAGAUCUAUCUUUCUAUUUUUAAAGGAUUUAUUUUGAGGAACUUUUUAGAAUUAGUCCACUAGGUUCCUAGGCUUAUAUAUAUGUUGCAUAAAAAGGUUUUUAGUUUGAUGCUUCUGAAUUGAAAAACGAAGUUUGUCUUUCUGUUCCCAAAAUUCUAGAAGAAACUUUCAUAUUUGCUUCUACCUAGUUGAGAAAGAGAUUUGUAUCCCCCUCAAGUGCUAAAGUGAAAUCCUCUAGGAGCAUAUUAGAUGUUGCUCAAGUGCUAAAGUGAGAUCCUCUAGGAGCACAUGAGAUGUUGCAUUGUAGACGUAAAACACAGUGUAGGUGUUAGGUAGUGAGUCUUAGUAGUAGCUUUCAUAAGAUAAAAUUGAGUACAUACCCCAUUAUAUAUGAUGGAGAGCUCCUCAAAUGCAAAUCCUAGAAUCGAAUCAAUUUUUACUAAAUUAACAGCCAACCCAUAUUUCAAACAAAAUCUUGCAAUUUCACAUUUUGAGCACUAAUCCAUGAAAAUGGUGUUUUUGGGGAGAAUUUCAAUUGAUUUAAGUGUAUUUGAAGAUGAUGCAACAAGAGAAGGCUAAGAGGAAUGCUAUUUUUUAACAUGUAAUUUUAUUUUAUUUAAAAAAAAAACAUUUCAAUACCAAUUUCAACAAUUGCUCUAUAGAUUUUGAUAAUGACCUAGAGAAGAAGUCUUUGUUGAAAUUUUUAUGACACUUUUAUCUUGUAUCAAAAGUUUUGAUACUAGUUGCAAAUUUUGUUAUCGUUUGCCAAGAAUUUUUCCAAUUACUUCUCUUGUUUACUUUUAUGACAUUUUAGGGAUUUUCUUGAUGUUUUAAGGUUAGGUUACAAGUAUAAAUACAUUCCUUAGAGAUUUUUAUGAGGAGGGUGAAUGAAAAACACAUAUAUUUAAUUUCAUAAUUUUAGUACUAUCUUUAUUAAUUUAUUUAAUUCAAUGCAUUUUGUUGGAAUGACAAUGAAUGGCUAAAUGCCUCAUUUUUCUAGAUAAGGUGGAUCUCCUAAGGAAAAAUCUCGGUAGAGUGCAUCUAAGGCAUUAAGAAAAGUUAUCCAAGUAUAAAAUCCCUCUUUCCCAUAAAUUUUGAAAAGCAAAAUAACUCGACCAAGGUUAGAUAUAUCCAAUUCAUAUUAGAUUCAAUGAGUGCUUCUUCACAGGUUAGGAAGUGAAUGUGAAAAAGUGUGACCAUCAUAGGAGUAUAUUAGAUCUUAUCCUUCCCUUCUUGAGACUUGAACUUAGGAGUAACCUGUUUUUGGAUGGCUUCAAUAUCACUAAUUGAUUAAUUUCUAUGUACAAUAUGUUUUUCUAAAUUUCAAACUCAUAAAAAUUCCAUCCUUUUAUUUCUAUUAGAAUAACAUAAAUCAUAUGGAAGUUAGAUUCUUAAUCUUAAGUCUUCUCAGCAUCAAGUAUCAACUAUAAGAACUCAAACUCAACACUUUAGUGGCUCUAAAGAGUCUAUUUAGUGCAUUUGAGGUAUUUAAAAAUGACCUAAUGCUUGGUUUUUUUAAUUAUUAAUGCCUUAGCCAUUUGCUUUUGAUAAUUUUUGUGAGUAUUUUUUAAACUUUAAGGCAUUUUGAAAAUAAAGUAUACUUUGUGGAGGAUUCUCAAAGAAUAAAAUGCCUAAGAAGAGAGCAAGAACAAAUUGUGUACCUUUCAGGUACACAAGAGUCUAUUGUGCAUCCCUCAAGUGAUCCAUCAAACUAGAUUGCACACUCCCUCUAGCAAUUUAAAUUGAGCACCUUUCCCACGAUUCAAAGGUUGCAUGCCCCCUCAACAAUUAAACCCAACAAGAGCACUCAACUUGUGCAUGUUCGUAACAUCUUAAUUGCACUUUUCCCUACCACUACAGUAGCAUAUCCCUAGGGUCACUCACUAUGCACACUGUUACCACUCUUGUAAAGGUUGAGCGCUUGAGAAAACUCCUUCCAAUGAUUUGUACACUCACCAAAGUAAUGUAAGCAUCUAAGCCUUAAGUCAUCAUCUAUACUAUCAAUUCUCUCAUAUUGAUUGCAUUGAAAGCCAAGUGCAACCACCAACUCCAAGUUGACAAGUCAAGUACAAGAAAGAUGGCUAGUUGACUACAUUGACACAUGAUCUGAUCCCCAAAAUGGGCAAGGGGCAGUUCUAGGAGAAUAGUUUGAGCAAUAAGAAUGGAUUACCUAAAGGGAAACCCAUUUAUAAAUAGAGGAUUGUCUGGGCGCGCGCCCACACACACACACACACACACACAUAUAUAUAUAAUAUGUAUGUAUGUAUGGGGAGAAAAAAAAAAAAAAAUGUUGAAGAGUUAGAAUCUUUAAUGGAGAUGAUAUCAACCUUUUUAGGAUUUAGUUAGGAAUUUAUUUUGGUAAUUAAAAUGACAAUUAAUAAUUUGGAUAGGAUUUGUUAAGUAGUUUCCUAUUUCUUUCUAUAUAUUUUCCUUAUUUUUUAUUGUUUCCUACAGUUAUAUAUAUAAAGGACAUUUUUCUCUUCUUUUCUCUAUGAAAAAAAAUACAUGACUAGGUAAAAUUAAGCUAUAGGUUUCUUAAUGGUAUCAAAGACAUCUUCUGGUUACUAGGAAUAAUGGUUAAAGGAGCAAUGAGAGGUACUUCCCAUUACAAUAACAACUUGAAGGAGGCAAAAAGAAAACCUAUCCCUCACUAGAAUUUUGUGACCAAUGGUCAUGUUCACUCUUCUUAGCUAAUUACCUCUCACAAAUUAACUUAAUGGAGAAAAUUAUCUUUAAUGGUUUCAAUUUGUCAAACCUUUUAUUUGUGGGCAUGGACAAAUUGAAUAUUUUAUUAAAGCAACAUCAAUACCACAAGGAACAAUUCUCAUCGAGAAAUAGGAAGUAAAGAAUGCCAUGAUUAUGUCAUGGCUGAUCAACUCAAUGGAACUCAAGAUUAUGAAGACAAACAUGUUCAUGCCUAUAACUAGAGAGAUAUAGGAGGCUACCAAGGAAACCUAUUAUGACUUGGUAACUUGCUCAGGUCCACACGAUAGCUAUACAAAUAAAAAAUACCAAGCAAGGUAAUAUGAAUGUAAUUCAGUACUAUAAUACACUCAAAACUCUUUGGUAAGAACUUAAUUUGUUCUAUGAUUAUGAAUAACAUUGUGCAUAAGAUAGUGAAAUGUUCUAAAAUAUGAUUGAGAAAGAUCGAGUCUCUGCAUUCCUAGUGGGGUUUAAAUCAGAAAUUAGAUGAGGUUUAAAGUUGAAUCUUAGUUUUGAAUAAUUCUAGCAAAAUCUGAUACCUCUUCACUUAACACUGCCCUAGCUAUGAAAAACCGUAAGCUUCACAUUUCAGCUAAUGAUCCAAAAUUCAAAAGGAUCCAUGGAAAGCCCUAGUGUGAUCAUCAUCUCCUCUAAAUGCUUCCAAAAUUCAAAAUAUUCAUUAACAAGUGAUUAACCAUCAUCUUUUCAAAAUGCAUCUUUAGAUGUCAUAUGCCCAAAGGUGUUCAAAUUCGUAAGAUAUUGACCAAGUCCAAAUAUUUAGAAGAAGGUAUAUCAUCCUCUACAAUUAGAAAGAAGAAAAUACAUUAUCCUUUACUAGUGAAAGCACAUAUGCCAUCACCUCAACAAAUCAAGCAUGCGUGCAAAUCUGUCUUAUUGGUCUUCUAAUUGCGGUUGAGCAAGUAUUAAGGAAGUACUUAAUUUGAAGCAUCUCUUCAUCAUCUAUAGUGGUUGUAGUUUCUAAUCCAAUAAUUGUACUCCUUUGAAAGUGGUACAAAUUAUUCUUCCUUAUUCCUUGCGUUACCACAAGUUUGCUUGGCCUAACUUUCACCCAUAUUUUAUAGUAACAAUAUUGAACCCUAUGGGUUAUAAUACUCUCAUUGAGAUGAGACACUUAUUCAUUCUAGGAACAUACUAAACAUCACUCAAAAUUUUAGUUGAUUAAUCACGAGUCUUCAACUGGAUGGUAUCUAUUAUUGUUAUCUCACAAACAUUAUCAUUCCCCAUGUAAACAACUCCAUCUUGGAGUUCUUCAAAGCAGGAAAACCACUCCUUGUAGGAAUGCAUGUGAAGGUGGACCCAAUAUCCAAAAUCCAUUCAUCUAAGUUAUAAAGCAAGGAUAAGGAAACCAAAGCAAAGUUUGAACCAUCUUCUCCAAACUUAGCCAGACAAGCAUCUAAUACUAUCUCUUCUUAAUUCUUCUUCUAUAACUUAGGACAAUCAUUGUUCCAACACUACCAAAAAUUAAGUAUGGGUGACCCAUUUAUAUUUACUUUUGCGACGAAUUUAAGUUGAUGCAAAUUUCUAACACACCUAUUAUGCCGCAAAUUGAAUUGUCUAUUGCUUAUAUGUAAUUAUUUACCAACGAUAAUUGUAACAACAGAUACUUGUUGGAAAAAAUAUUAUUGCAAUGGAUUUAAACCAUUGCAAAUGUUCAACUAAUAUACUUUGUCACAAAAGCAAUUUACUUAUUAAAAAAAAAAGAAAAAAAAAAGAACUUUCAUAAAUAAUUUUUUCUAUGAAAAUUACUACUUAAUAAAACAUUUUUAUUAUAGUGGAUAAUAAUACCACACAUAAUUUAUUCCAAAAAUAAUUGUUGUCUUAUGAAUAUAAAAUCUUUUCACCAUAGUUGUAUGAUAAAUACGAUCUAGCUAGUGACAAAACAAUUUUCUGAUCAUUUUUUAGGUUCAUACAAUAUUUACAUUUUUUUAAUCAUAAUAGUUUUAAUAUUUUUUAACUACUUUUUAUAGUCCAUUUUAGAAAGAAAUAAAUUAAAAAUUAUUGAUAUAUAUAUAUAUAUAUAUAUAUAUAUAUGUAUAAUAUAAUUUAUGAUAUCGAAUACUAAUAUUUAAAUUUUAAAAAUACAUUUUAUAGAGAUUUAUCUAAUUUGAAUGUAUUCAAUAACAUAAAAAAAAAAAAUUGAUAGUACAUGCAUAAGUAUUUUUAUUUUAAAAUGUUGAUAAUUUCAUUUAUAAAUUUAUAUUUAUUUUAUAUUUAAUUAUUAUACAAAAUACAAAAGAAUUAAAAUUAAUUAAUUUAUAAUAAUUUUAUUUUAAAUAAUUUAUAAUUUAUACUAUAUAUAUAUAUAUAUAUAUAUAUAUAUAUAUAUAUAUAUAUAUAUAUGAAUUCAUGCAUGUGUAAUUUAUAUAUAAUAUGUAUUUAUAUAUAGAUAAUAUUUAUAAUAUAAAUGCAUAAGUAUAGGAUAUUUACAUUUAUGAAUCUUAUAUAAAUUCUGUAUAUUGCACAUAACAAAGUUACUUGGUAGCAUAGUUACUUCCUUUCAAACUUGAGGUUAAGGGUUUCAAUCUUGAGAAACAACAUCCAAGCCAAUAUCCAAAACUAGAAAAGAGAUGAGUGUCCAUGUGAAUGUAAUGAAAUCAAAAUUUCAUGACAACCUAAAAUAUUUUAUUAUUUACAUUUCUCAACCAAUUUAAUCCGUUGGUAAUAGUGAGAGUCCAAAUCCAUUGGAUAGUUUGUCACUAAAUAUUUUUUAUUGGCAAUGGAAAAUUCCCAUCAAUAGAGUUUUGUCAACACACCUUUCCUCGAUUACCAUGUGAUGGGAUUAUCGAUUGGUAAAUGUUUAUUUCGACCAUGUAUAUCAGUUGAGAAAAGUAAUAUUUCUUGUAGUGUGAUGACCCUUGUCAUGAAAAGGACACAUUCAUCUUUUGCAAGUAUACAUUUAAAUUAAGAAUUGUCUCAUUUUCUAGGUUUUCAACUUUGAGAUUAGUCAUUAACUAUUGAAGCUUCCAAUGAUAUAUCCCAAUGAUUGCUUUGGUCCUUCUUUCUUUAUUCAGAGCUUAGCGAAGUGGAACGCACAACAUCAAAAGGAAUCUUAUCCUUACCAUAAAGUAAGGUGAUGGUAAGAUUUUCAUACACAUCAAGAAGAAAAUUCAAUAACAAUAAGGCCUUAUUCUCAUCUUCAAUGAUCUCAUCUAAAUUCAACAAAUUUGCUCUGAUUCUAUCAUAAGCAUGCAUAUGAUCAUUCAUAGACAUUUGUUUAUACUUGAAGCAAAAAAGUUUGUUAUUCAAAUAUAGUUGAUUUUCUAGACCUUUUUUCAUAUACUUGUCCUCCAAUGUCUUUCAUAAAUGUUUUUGUAGAUAUCUCUUUCAUAAUGGAAUAAUUUUAAGCUUUAACAAGAUAUAAGUGGAUGGAAUUAUAAAAUUGACAAUUGAUCCCUUACCCAUUCUUUAUCAUUCAUGUUUUCAGGUUUUUCUUCCAAAAAAAUAUCCAAAUUCUAUUUGACAUAUCUAAUUAAUGCCUCUUACUGCCACAUUCCAAAAGUACUAGUUCUAUCAAAUUUCUCUAUUACAAAUUUCACAUUAGUAACCAUUGUCUUAACUAACGAAGUUUUUGACUUUUCUUUUAACUAGUGCAAUAACAAAUAACCUUGAAACCAACCUUGGAUAGAACUAAUGCUCUUAUACCAUUUUGUUGUGCUUUAACCUAAUCCCAGAAGACUUCCAAAAAUACUAAAUAAAAUACAAACUAAACUUUAGUCCAUAAUAUAAAGAUAAAUAGCAAGAGAAAUAAAAAUAAAAGAUGAUACACAAUAUUUAUGAGGUUUAGUAAGGAUAUCUUACCUAUAUCAUCAGACAAUGAUGAUCAAUCCACUAAUCUUCAAAUCAAAAUUACAAAAUCAAGUUGGGAAAGCUUGUCUCACAAAGUGGUUGCAAUUACAAAGAUUGACUAAAACCUUAAAGAUUGAUUGAAGCUGCUCUAACAACUUUCCUAAAGUCAUUCUCACACUACCAUGAUGAAAGGACUUAGACUCAUUUAUAGAACCUGAAUAAGUCCUCGAGCCUUGAAAAAACUAAUUCAUAAUUCCUGUGGGACACGAACUCCUAACAUAUAACAGAUUAUGAAAUCAUAAUCCUUAUAGGACAAGGAUCCUUAAAAUAUAUUAAACUCUUAAUUGAGCUAAAAGCCAAUGCCUAAUAUAGAACUCACACCAUAUUUGCCAUAACUCUACUAAGUAGUUGGUUGUUAAGCAGAAUUAUCAGUUUCAAAGAUUAAAUAAGCCUUUCUUUUUCCUUCCCUUUCCAUUUUUCUUAUCAUCCAAACAACAAUGAUAAAAAAUUUAGUGUAACUUUUGUUGCUUUGCUACUUGUUCUCUCAACUUACUUGCCUGCUUGCGAAUGACCUCCAAAAUCAAAGUAAAUGGGGAAAUAAUGUGGAGUUCCAAGAUAUACAUAGAAAAGAGUGGACAACUAGAUCUACAACAUAGCUAGCAAUUUUGUCUCUAAAUUUCUCUUUGUCGUGGUAAUGGCCAUUGAAGAUGUCAUCACUGAGAAGAUCACAAAGUGAAGAAGGCAUGAUUGAGGGUUGGUAGAGUAGAGAGUUAAGGUAGAAAAUAACAAAGAUAGGAUUUUGACAUUUUUAGAAUUUGUAAAUAAAAAAUAAAUACAAUCCAAAAAUCACUUUCAGAACAUAAUUUUACUUGACCAUGGCAAACACGUUUUUUGUUAUGUGGAUUGUACUUGAUGUUCUUGAAAACAUUGAAUGCAUUUUGGAUUGACUACUAAACAUGACCUUAGUAAUUAAAUUAGCAUAUUGAUAAAUUAUUAAGAGGCUUUUAUCAAUUUGGUCAACUCUUAGAAAAGUGUUGUUGAAAACACUAAAUAAAAUCUAUAUAAUUUUUUUUUUUGAAACAUGCUUGACCAUACCAAACACAUUAUUUUUUAUUUGGAUUGUAUUUAAUAUUUUCAAAAACACUAAAUACAUGCAAUUUGAUUGACUGCUGAACAUGAACUUAGUAAUUAAAUUAGAAAUUUCAAAUGAAUUAAUGUUUUCUAUUUUGCAAGCAAGUCAAGAUUUUAUGUUUUCUACUAAAAUUUUGAAUGCAUCACUAAAAGUAACAUCACCACUUUCUAGUUAUAAAGUUUUAAGAAUAUAUUUUUUAUCAAUACAUAUGGUUGUUUUCUUUCGUGUCAAGAUACGAAAUACUUUUUUCCUAAAAUUUUUCCUUUUUACGCAAAUAAUAAAGUGGGGUUUUUUCUUGAUUUAUUUUUUAACAUAGUUUUCCAUUCUAUAUUGUUAAUAUACCAACACUUUUCAUUUUUUUCUUGAAUUUUGGAUCUUCCUUCAUUGUUUGAUGAACUAUUUCCUUAGCCAUAACCAUGAUGACCAUGACCAUGAUUGUUUUGGCUUCCUUCAUACCAAAUGUUUUUUUGCCCUCUUGUUGAUAUAUUAAACUACGUUGACAAUUUUCUAUUAUUUAUAUAUUGAGUCUGAUACAUCAUACUUCCAAGGGUCAUACUGAUGUCAUUCAACUUCAAGCUACUUUUGAGUUAACUAUAUUACAAGGUAUAUGUGCAAAAUUAGGUUGAAUCAGGGUACAAGGAAUGGCUACCACAUGUAUGCUAGGUGAAAUUUUAGAGAUUUUUUUUUUUUUUUUUUGUCAAGGUUAAGGAUUUGAAUAACUAAAGUCUCAAUAAAGUCUUUGAGGUAACUAAGGAGCACAAGGAGUGUUGCAUGGGGCAUGGAAGAAGAAUGUAAGUUACGUAUAUCUUAUUUUUAUAUUUAAUAGAUUGUUUGUGGUUGAUAGACUAUUCAUUGAUCUUUACACCCAAAAGGUUUUAAGCGGUUUUUUCAUGUUACAUUUUGUGUCAUAUGUUUAAUUGAUUAAUCUUAUUCAAGGAAUUGAUGAAAACUUAAUUAUAAUUGAUAUAGCUAGAUGUUUAGGAAUGUUUCAAUUUAAAGUGCUUUUAAUUGAAUUGUUUUUUUUAGAAGCAUUUUUAUAUAUUAAAGAAUCACCUCUCAAGCACUUCUCCAAAAAGUAUUACAAGUGAUUUUUAACUUUAUAAAGAAUGCUUUCUAAGUUUUUCCAAGCGUAUAGUUUUUCUCUAAAAGUGUUUUCUUUUUAAUACUAUAAGCAUUUUCGAAAAGUACUACUAAAUGGACUCUUAAUUUUUGAGGAUAUUUCACUUAGACAGCCCAUUCAUCCCUCUCUCUAUAUGGUUUUGUGUCUCAAGAUAAAAGCUCUCUCCUUUAUUUUAAUAUAAUCUUUGUUUGAAGAAUUAUUCUAAUUUUUACUUGACUUUUGUUUUUAAUAUGUCUUCCUAGGCUUUUAAUGAUCCCAUAAAUUGGUCAAUGACUAUAGAAUCCAAAUAUUUAGGCCUUUCAAUAACAAAAAAAAAAAAAAAAAGAUGAAAACUUUUUUUUUUUUAGUUACACAAAUAUCAUUAAACUUUCCCCAUUUAUUUUGACUUAAUUUACAUAUGUCAAUAUUUUUGGAAAAUAAUCAAAGAUUCUCUUAUAUUUAAACUUAAAAAUUCACUUUUAAAAGUAUGAAAUUGAACUUUUUUUUUUUUUUAAACUUAUCAAACUUUUAUAUUUAUUUGUAAUAUUUUUCAUGUUUCCUUUGAACUAGUUGCACUUAAAAUCAUUUCAAAGGUGUCUACAUCUAUUUCUUAAUAAAUAAGGUUAAAAGCUUUCUUGUCUUUCUUUCUUAUAUCUUCAAAAAGUCUAUUUAAUUUUGGGAUAGAUUGGUUUUAUCCUAUAGCUCCUUGUAGUUUUUCUCUACAAUCUAUUAUAUAUCUUGCAACCAAAUAAAACCUUUGUCUUGAAAUUCAAAUAGUCAAAAUUGUUAAAACAAUCUUUAUUGAGUUAAGCAACUUAAUUGCAUUACACCUUUUCCGAAAAAUAAAAUAAAAUAAGAAUCAUAUUAUAUGCAUAAAUUUCAUGAAAGUCCUGCAACCUAUAGGGGGUAGGCCUUGAAGUUACAGUGAUAAUUUAUUCCACUAAAAAUUUUGAUCUCUACAAUUAUACCUUUUUUUUUUUUUGGAGUAAUAGGGAUAAAUACACAAAUAAUAGUACUAUUAAAAGGGAUAAGUAGAGGAAUUUAAAAGAAAUUUAUUGUGUUUUUAAAACUUUAAUUCAAGUAUUAUAUACAAAACUCCAAUUACAAUAUGUUUUAAUUCACUUUUUAAAACUAAUCAAAUGUAAUUUUUGAAAACUUCUCGAAACUCAAAUUUCGAUUUCAACAUGUGAUUGAAUGAUAGGGAUGAUAAAAAAUAGGUAAAUAAAAUAUAUGUAAUAUUAUUGUACAUUAUUAACCGCUUUCAUACCAUUAGCAUAUCAAUGGCAUCUUGCUAAGAAGAAUAACCACCGACAAUAGUCCAUUAUAAUUGUUUCAGAAUGAAUGACAUUUAUUUGUUCGUAUUCUAUUGUUUUGCUAUUUAGGCCAUAUUCACUUGAACUGACUUUUUGUUUGGAGUAGUGUUUUAGUAGAGAAUUUGUAGGAGGACACCUAGAUUUAGCCUAUGGGUUGCCUUAAUUAAUGGUUUUGGCACAACUUAACAAAAUUCUAUGCUAUCAUAAAGUAGCUGAUUGACCAUGAUUGCGCAAUGCCAUCAUAAAGGAACUGAAUGCCCAACACACAUACAUGUGAGGUACCAUAUUUUUUAAGAAAGACAAGUCAGUUUGCAAUUGAUGUUAAUAUCUUUCCAAGGCGGAGACAUCAUUUUGUAGGUAUAAUUGAAUUAGUUAAACUUAAAGCCCAAUUGACAUUCUUUCAAGUAAAAUCAUUUUUAACCUAUAAUGCUCAACACUUUUAUUAUGAGAAUCAUAGAAGUAUCAGAAUCGUAGAGAAUCUGAGAAAGUGAUUCUAUAGUGUUGUUGAUAAUAUGUCACAUGACUAUAAAAUGUUUUUAAUAUUAGUAAAUUAUCAAAAAGGACAUCAAAUUUAAUUACAACAAGGAAAUAUUAUAAUAAACUAAUAAUUUUUCAUGAUAAAAGAAUAUAUAAACAUUUAUAGUAAAAGAAUAUAUAAACAUCUAUAUUACUAACAAAAACUAAAAAAAAAAUAAUAGUUCUGGUGAUUACAAGAAAAUUUUAGAGAAAAUUUACAACAUGAUUUGGAUUAAUAAACAAACAUCAAUCAUAAUAUAAUAAUUUUCAAAAUAAAAUAAAUUAUUUGAUUAUUUAUUCACUUAAAAAUAAUAUUUUUUUAUUACUACAAAAAAAUUUUGAAAAAUACUUACAAAAAAUCUAGAUUAAUAAUGAAGAAUUGAAUAAAAACAUAUUAGAUUUUAAAAAUAAAUUAGUAAUUAAAAGCAAAUGAGAAGACAAAUUUUCUCAUAGAAAAAAAAGGAGAAAAUUGUAUAUAUUUUUUCAUAUUAGUGUUAUAAUAAAACAUCAACAAAAUAUAAGAAGACUAGCAAUUCGAUCACGUUCUUUUUACAUCUCUCUUGCAUGAUAGAACCAUCUUUCUCAACUCGUAAAUUCACUAUAAUCUCUUUUUUAUUAAGUAGAUGUAACCCUUGAUCAUCAUCAUAAGGUUUAAAUUUCAUAUCUAUUCUAACAUUAAUCAUUAUUAAGUUGUAAAAACCAUCAAAGUAAUAACAAUGUUCACUUAUUUUUUAAGAGGAAAAACUAUGCAUUUCUCAUAUUGUUCCACAUCUGUUCUUCAAAAAGGCAAAUGUUCAAUUGUUCUCCUCAAAUAUGUCUAUGGUUAGAUAUUUCCUUCUUACCUCUUGGUAAACUACUCCAUCAAAAUUUGGAAGUUGGUAACACUCGCCCUCUAAGGGCCUAAUUAUAUAUCCACUCAUUUAAGGAUAACCAACAUUGAGUAAAUAAUAUUUACCUACAAAACAAAAACAAAAUAUUAUAUAAGAGAAUAAAAAUUUAAUCACAAAAGUAACUUUCAUAUUUUUAGUCACAAAUCUCUAGAUGGAUGAGGAAAACCCAAUUCUAGCAUUUUUUUUUAAUGCCCCUACAAAGACGCAUGCAUCAUGAGCAAUACCUCCCCAUCUAGCCAAUGCAAAUGUGAAAUACAUAUUGAAAUAAUAUAUGGCCAUAAUAUUUUAGGUAGUUAUGCUUUUUGUACCAAUAUGUGAUAUUUGCCUAUCUCUAAAAAUCAUAAUGGGCAUAUGAGUUCCAUUAAUUACCCCUGUACAAUUCUUAAAAUAUGGCCAAUAACGGUCAACAUUUCUUAUUUUAUCAAGGAUCUCCCUAAACUAUGAAUCACUUGGUUUUACAAUAUCCAUAGCUAUAAGACAAAUAACAUCUAAUAUAAUCUCAAACCAUCUAGAAAUAAAUUCAUUGGAGUGUACCCUCCCCCGAUCCACCGACCGGCGUGACUCACAAUUGAAACGAUAAGUAGAGAAAAAAAUGUUUUCCAGUUUUGGAAAAUCCAUCCCAACGAGGGAUGGUUUUUGUUUGGAGUCGCCACUUACUUUUUAUUUUUAUUUUUGAAAUGGGAAAAAUUAUGGAAGAACAAAAACCCCUCAAUGACUCCAGUUAGGAAAAAAACGGUCUGCGAAACUAGAUUUCUAGGUCCGAGGAUUAGGUUACCUAUCAGGAAGGUACCUCAUAUGAGGUAGCACCCCUCUAGGCCCGAAAUCUGGUCUCUACUAGUGAAUUGGGUACAUUGGAGCAUAUGGUAAAAGAUCAAUCAAUUCCCACCUCGAGCUACAUGAAUGACAAGACUUGCGCAAUUCUAGUUGGUAUUUGACAUGCUUAGGAAAUCGACAAUCAGAACAAAGAUGCGUACCUGAGGUCCCUAGUUGUGCGCUGAGAGAAAAGGUUAGUCAAUAAGCACAAGCGUACAACAUAUACAACCCUGUGAUUUACUAAAAUUUAGCCGCAUUCCUACUUGAAUUGAUAGAAUUUCUAGUCAUGACCUGACCCUAUACAUGUAACCUCUAAUCUUCGCUAAACAACCAUCAAAAUUGAAACUUAAAAAAUUAAAUUCAAAAUUUCAAGAUUUUUGGAAAUUUUGGGAACGGAAACUUGAAAAAAAUAAAUCCGGAGUUUUCGAAACUUUGGAAAUUUUGGGGAAUGGACUCUUAAAAAAAAUGAAUCCAGAAUUUUGAGCAUUUUGGAAAUUUUGGGAAUGGAAACUUAAAAAAAUUUAAAUAUGGAAUUCUCAAAAUUUUGGAAAUUGAAACUUAAAAAAUAAAAUCCGGAAUUUUUGAAACUUUGGAAAUUUUUGGAAAUGGACACUUAAAAAAAUUAAGUCUCGAAUUUUCGAAACUUCGGAAAAUUUUGGAAAUGGAAACUUAAAAAAAAUGAAUCCGGAACUUUCGAAAUUGGAAACCUUCAAUUUUAAAAGUUUUGGAGUUUUGGAAAAUUUGAUAGUGGAAACUUAAAGAAUUAAAUUUGGGAAUUCGGGAAUUUUGGUAAUGGAAACUUAAAGAAUAAAUUCUGAAUUUUGGAAACUUUGGAAUUUUGGAAAUAAAACUUUGAGGAUAGUAUUUAAAAAUGAAACUUUGGAACUUUGAAAAAAUAAACUUUGAGGAUAGUAUUUAAAAUGAAACCUUGGGAUUUUGACUUUUGGGAAUUUGAAAAAUUAAUUUAAGAAUGCCAUUAAAAAAAAAUUGAAAUUGCGGAAUUUUGAGAGUUGUGGAAUUUUGGAACAUUAAUUUUAACAAUGGUGUUUUUAAAAAUGAAAAUUUGGAAUUUUAAGAGAAAUGGAACUUUAGAAAACUUAUUUAAAGUUAGUAUUUUAAAAAAAAAAACUAGAUUUGGGAGUUUUAGAAAUGGAAACUUAAAAAAUUAUAUUCGAAAAUUUUGAAACUUUGGAAUUUUAGGGAACAGAAAUUUUAAAAAUUGAAUUCGGAACUUUGAGAAUUUUUGGAAAUUUUGGGUACCCUAAUUUUAAAAAUUGAAUCCGAAACUUUAUAAUUUUUUUGGAUAUUUGGGCAUAGGAAUUUUAGAAAAUGAAUUUGGAACUUUGUGAAUUUUUUGGAAACUUUUUUGGUAUGGAAAUUUUAAAAAUUAAAUCCAGAACUUUGUGAAUUUUUUGGAAACUUUGGGUACGAGAAUUUUAGAAAAUAAAUUCGGAACUUUAUGAAUUUUUAUAAAUUUGGUGUACGGGAAUUUAAAAAAAUGAAUCCGGAACUUUGUGAAUUUUUUGGAAAUUUGGUUACGGGAAUUUUAAAAAACGAAUCUGGAACUUUACGAAUUUUUGGAAAUUUGGGUAUGGGAAUUUUAGAAAAUGAAUUUGGAACUUUACGAAUUUUUUGGAAACUUGGGUACCGGAAUUUUAAAAAAUGAAUCCGGAACUUGGCAAAUUUUUUGGAAACAUUGGGUACAGGAAUUUUAAAAAAUAAAUCCGGAACUUUAUGAAAUUUUUGGAAACUUUGGGUACUAGAAUUUUAAAAAAUGAAUCCAAAAUUUGGCAAUUUUUUUUGGAAACUUUGGAUAUGAGAAUUUUUAAAAAAUGAAUCCAGAACUUUACGAAUUUUUGAAAACGUUGAGUAGUGGAAUUUUAAAAAAUGAAUUCAGGACUUUACAAAUUUUUGGAAACUUUAGGUAUGAGAAUUUUAAAAAAUGAACCCGGAACUUGGAGAUUUUUUUGGAAACUUUGGGUACGAGAAUUUUUUAAAAAUUAAUCCGGAACUUUACGAAUUUUUAGAAACGUUGGGUACUGGAAUUUUAAAAAAUGAAUCCGAAACUUUACGAAUUUUUGGAAACUUUGGGUACAAGAAUUUUAAAAAAUGAAUAUGGAAUUUUACGAAUUUUUGGAAACUUUGGGUAUGGGAAUUUUUAAAAAAAUGUUAAGUUGGAAUUUUGGGGAAUAUUGGAAAUGAUAUUUUAAAAGUUAAGUUGGGAAUUUGGAAAAUUAGAAAUGUUGGAAAUGAUAUUUUAAAGGUUAAGUUGGGAAUUUGGACAAGUGGAAAUGUUGGAAAUAAUAUUUUAGAUGUUAAGUUGCAUGUGGGCUGUGCAUGGGAAGUGCAUGGGCUAAAUGGGAGGUGUAGACGUAUGAGAGGAGUUGUGGGGAGAUGUAUUUGAUGGCUGUUUGAAGACCCUGAGCUUCCUGUGAGCUAUAGGAUGGCUUUAAGCUAUAUGUGGGUUGCACUUGGUGGCCAUUUGGAGACCUUGAGUUGUAUAUGGGCAGUAGGGUGGUUUUAAGCUGCAUGGGGGCUGCAUGUGUGACCUUUAGGCUAUGUGUGUGGGCUAUAGGUGUGAGGGUAUGGAGGCCAUGGGUGCAUGUGAGGAUUGUUAAGAUAUGGACUCGCAUAUCUAACAAUAGUUCAUGACUAAGCUACUCACCCUUAAUGUAUUUUUUUUCUAUUCGUUCUAAGUAUGGGCCAUCUCAUGUGUAGAGCCCGAUACCGUAUAUGUCUCAAAUGAUGGGCUUAAGACACAUAUGACCCAAUCUUUGCAACGGAAUGGUACCUAAGGCAGGAGGGUAUAAAAGGAUAAGUGUCAGUUCUUGAACAUCACAACUUUUGAAAAACUAAACUAAACUCGUUCUCUCCUACUCCCAUCGUCAGAGAGAAUACCAAAAAGAGGUGGUACCCUCCAUAGCCUUAGAAGAUCCAUACCUUCUUCAACACCCAAAAAGAGGCGGUGCCCUCCAUAGCCUUAAAAGGCAUGAUUUUAUGAAUGAAUUGAUAUAUAUACAUCUAUCUUGUAUGCAUGUUUGGUGUUAAUGGAGAAGACAGUUUAUUAUCAAGGAUGAGGUGUGAACUGUACGGAUGUCAUGGUGGGGUGUGAGGAUGUAUGUGGUAGUGUGGGCUGCACAAUGGGUGGGUUGUGGGCUGUGGGAGAUGAGUUUCGUGAAGAAUGAACAGUGGAGGAGGUAGAGAGAGAAGUGGGUUUGGUGGGUGUGGAAGAUGAAAACAUGGAUAUGGUGGUGUGAAUGAGCUAUGAGGUUACAUGGGUUGCAUUGUGAUGGUAUGAACGAGCUGUAGGUUGCAUGGGCUGCAUGGUGAUGGUAUGGAUGAGUUGUGAGGUUGCAUGGGUGAGCCAUGGAGGUUAUGGGUUGCAUGGGUGAUCCAUGGAGGUCAUGGGUGCAUGCGUGAACUGGGUGUGAGCUGUGGGUGCAUGUGGGCUGUAUGUGGAAAGUGUGAGUGAGCUUUGUGUGGGAUGUGGGUGCAUGUGGGCUGUAUAUGGAGAGUGUGAUGCCUUUUAGGGCUAUGAGGGAGCUAUGGGACGGCCGUGAGGGGAUGAGGGCUGCGUGUGGACUGUAUGGUGGGCGUGAGUGGCCUGUGAGGGAGCUAUGGUUGCUGGUGAAGCGGUGUGGUGACUGUGGAGGCUGCAUGCGGGCUGUAGGUCGGCUUUGAGGGCCAUGAGGGGGCUAUGGGAUGGCCGUGAGGGGGGGUAAGGGCUGCAUGUGGACUGUAUGGUGGGCGUGGGGUACAUGUAUGGGCUGUAGGUGAUGUGCGGGCUGCAUCAUUUUAUCCUGUAUGCCAUUUUAGGUUUAAACUCAUUUUUAACUUAAAACAUCUGAAAUUAACCCAAAACCAUGGCGAUGGGAAAAGAGAGGGUAAGGAAAAAUGGCCCAGAAAGGUUUUCAAUUUUCUUUAAUUGCAUUCCAUAUCUCCCUCAUGAAGCAUCCCUUCCUCACUUUCAAAUUGUAACUUAACUCCAAAAGAACCCCAUCAAUUCUUCACAACUACAUAAGAAUAAUUGAUCACCUCCCUUGCCUUCCCUUCAGAAUUAGUUUCUUUGCAUAGACCAGUCCACUCACCAAGAGUUUUAUCAUUGAGUGCCGAUAUAAGGCUGACAUUAUGGUCAGCACAAAUAAAUUUAAUACAGUCCAGCUGAUUACAAAUCUCUUCCAAUACACACAAUUGGGCAGCAUGUUUUUCAAUCAUCUUAGCACUUUCGUGGAAGCUUCGCAUAGGUCCAACAUGAGCCAAUGAUUACCUUAAGACGGGUAUCAGGGCUGUCUUGAGGUCUAUGGUCUUACCUAGGAGGGGCACCAGCAGCCUCAACCACAACAACUUCAUCUCCAAACAUUUUCCUCAAUCAUCCCCCCUAGAUGAUCUUGGUGUGCAAGCUUACCCAUAUGAUUCUAACCGAGCAUGAGAAAUCGGUAUACAUGGCGUAUAGAACCAAAAACAUAGGACAUCGGGAAGACCAGACAAGAAGUUGAAACGAAAAUAGGGUAAAUGAAAACAAGGAUAAAACAAAGGACAUGCAAAAUAAUCACCAAUCCAUAUUCCAUAAACAGAGAGUCAAUAGACUUGUAUUAAGGAUGGGUGAGAAGAAUUUCCAGAAAUUAUCAAGAGGCUUAAAACAGAGUUCAAACCAAUCUCUGUAAAGCACAAUGAAAAUGGAACAUAAAAGCACUAUAACUCAGCCCAAACAAUCCAAAGAUCAGCCACUAUACAGCCUGAUACCUAUACCUAAAAUUAAUGACGAGCAUAUAGGCCUUCGACCACCAAAACAUCUAACAAAUGGAAUAAAUCUAGAAAAGAGUAGAUGUUUUAAUGUAAAGAACUUACCUCCUAGAAUAUGUGGAUUGUCCUGAAUCCUCAUUGCCUUGCUCUCUGUUCUGACUUUUUUCUCUGUUCUCCCUUCAGAAUCCGUUUUUCUUUCUUUCUCUCAAAACCUCCCCCUUUCCUCCAGAUUUUUCUGCUCCAGACCCCCUCUUUUUGAAACCUCCUCAACUUUUCUUCUCCUCUCUCCUCUUUUUUUUUUUUUUCUUUUUAUACCAGAAUCUCCUUUCUACCUCCUCCCAUGCCUUCUCAAAAUCCUCAAAUUCUUUCAAAAACUCUGUUCCACCUCUGCAAACUCUCCUUCCCAUAAAAAAAAAAAUCCUCUUCCUCAGGUCAACUUAUCUAUCUCUUCCCCAUUUUCCAAUUAAUUAAAUCCUUUUUUUUUUCAAAACCUUUGUUUUUCUUCUUUUAGCCAACGACCCUUGGAAUUUUUAUUUAUUUAUUUAUUUAUUUUAAAACCUCAUUUUCUGCACCCUUCCAUUUUCAAAAAUAUCAACCUCUUUUUUUUUUUUUUUAUGCACUCGAUUUUUUACUUUGCCAAGUCUUUUUUUUUUUAAAGUAAAUAAAAUAAAAUAAAUUGAAUAAAAUAAAAUAAUAAUAAAAAACAUAAAGUAAAUAAAUAAUAAUAAUAAUAAUGAUAAUAAUGACUUACCAAAAAAAAAAGCUAUUCAUAAAAAAAAUUAUAUUGAAACAUUUCAAAAUAAAUAAAUAAAUUGAAUAAAAUAAAAUAAAAUAAUAAAAUAAUUUACCAAAUUAAUAAUAAUAAUAAUAAUAAUAAUAAUAAGAUAAGAGCAAUAAUCACAUGCAAAUUUUUUGAAAAUAAAUAAGUAGGUGAAUAUAUAAAUAAAAUAAGAAAAAUAAAUAAAUAUCAAAUGCAUAUAAUUAAUAAUCUAAAUAUUAAACUAAAACACAAUAAAAAAUUAAAUUUAAAAAAAUUAUCAAAUUGACACAAUUAAACAUCGAAAAUUCUUUUUAGGCAAUCAAAAUCAAAAUCAAAAUCAAGAUCAAACCCAAUACUUACCUAAUCUCAAACAUCUAGCAAUCAAGAAAUUAAUCUUAGGGAAUUAACCCCAAAAAAGCAUCUAAGUGACCUAGGUGAAAAAGUGUCUAAGUGACCAAAGUGGAAAGUGCCAAGGUGAAUUAGGUGGAAAUUAAACUAAGGAGGUGUCUAAGUGAUCAAAAAUGCGCUAAGUGACCUAGAAGGUUUAAAAAAGGGCCUAAGUGAUGUAGGGUGAUUAGAAACGUGUUAAGUGGCCUACGAGUGUAUUUAAUGGGCCAAAUGCAUUUAAAUAGGCCUAAGGUGCCAAAGUGGGCCUAAGGUGGUGCCCAAUGGGUCACCAGAGAAUUAUUGAAAAGUAUCAAAUGGACACAUAAUAGAACAUGUGCUAGUAGGACAAAAUGGAGGGUCUACAUGGAAUGCUAAAAUCUUUCUUAGGUCGUCAUGUUGCCAAGUCUAUGACCUAUUAUAGUGAGAAACAUUGCUAAAGCCUCUAUUAAGGGCAUAUCCAAACCUUCUCUUAGACCAUGCCUUUUAAUAAGUGUUUCUAAUCAUUAAUGCAUACAUGUUUUUCCAUCCUAAAUUGCUCAAAACUCUAAUUUCGAAAAAGUUCUACAAGGUUUUUAUUUUUUAUUUUUGUAGUUAGUAAGUGUUACAGGUACAACACAUCAAACCAACACCAAUUGAUAAAAAACAUUUCACCAUUGCUUUCAUCUUUAAUAUUAUGAUUGCAACUAUUAUUAUAAUUAGAAAACAUAUAUACAAAAAAUAAAAAUAAGAAAUACAUUAAAAAAAAACCAAUAAUGUACAUUUUAUGUUAAUAUAGCUUAAACUUAUGCAUGUUUACUAAAAUAAAAGGAUUUUUUAUUUAAAAAUUUAUUUGAACAGGCCAAUUCAAGAGUAGUAGUAGUAGUAAGCAAAAUAAUAGCACUAAAAAAUAAGAGCAUAAAUACAUGUAAUCAUAUAAUUAUAUUUUUCCAUAAUAAUAAUAAUAAUAAUAAUAAUCUAGCUCAUGUGGGUCACCCUAGGAUAAGACUCCUCCCAUAACACCCCUAUUUUCAAUCCAUUUCUAUUCUUAAUAGCUUGAUUAAUUAAACAAAAUUUUAAAUUCGAAAGUGUUGUGUUGAGAAAUCAAAUACAUUAUAAAGCUCAUCUAAUUAACGACUUGACUGAAACAAAAUUUUAGAUUCAAAAGUGUUGUGUUGCAAAAUCAAAUACAUUAUAAAGCUCAUCUAAUGGUCACAACUUUUAGAGAAAGAAACAAUUAAAUAUACCAUGUGAUAGGCAUAUAUGUCUUCCUCACUCAAAAAUUUCACUCAAUACCAACAUACAAAUCCAAUUUAAAACAAUAUUAGGUAGCAAAAUAUGUUUCAACAUUAGAAUAAGAAAUAACUCAAAUAGUCAAACAUGUUUUUGCUUAUGUCGUGCAAUUUGAUCAAUUGAGUUUUCUAAUGUAAGAAACAUCUCAUUAUUUUCCUUGACAACUUGAAUAACUAUGACUUUCAUAUACAACUUAAGGUCAUUCUCCACUUCAAGCAUGCCACAUAUAACUUUUAUUACUUUAACCAUGCUACAACCAAACUUAUCUACUCUAGAUGUAACUUUAAAAAUGGGCUCUAACUGCAUAGUAAAAACACAAGAUUUGGUUCCAUCUCUUAUCUUCUUUCUUCUUCUCUUAUUUUGCCUUGAAAUUUAUUGCCUUGGGGUUCUUCUACAAAAGUAUCCAAUUCAUUAUAUUUCACAACCAAAAUAUAAAUUAACCAAAUAAACUUAGUAAAUAAAUAAAAAUGUAUCUUCAAUUUAUUAUCCUACCAUUCGUUUUUAGCAUUAGUGGUUUGUGUCAUAGGUUCCACCCAAGGCCAAUCUCUUUUUGAAUCAAGGCAUUCCAAAGUUGUCAAUCAUUUUUUAAGAGUACUUACUGUUAUAGUUGAACAAAAAAUGAUCUCUUCAAGAAUAUUUUAGAGACUUCAAAAUUAUAUAUGAUAAUCUUGCCGCAAUCAAAAGCUAAUUUCAAACCAAGACAAAGUUUGUUGAUUCACUCGUGGUUUAGGAUAAUGGAAUGAUUUUUUAUUUUUUUUUAAUCUACAAUGCUUUUCUAGCCAAUUCAUAGUAUCUCUUUAAGGACAUAAGCAAUCACUCACUCGAAAGAGAUGGAAAGAAAAUUUUCCUAGAGGAUGUACAAGUUUUUAAAGAAAAUUUUCCUAAAGGAUGUACAAGUUUUUAUUUGGACAACAUAGUUAUGGUCAUAAUGGUUAAAAAGGCGGAAAUUUUAAUUUGAGGGGAAGAAUCUUUACACUUCCUAGUGUUACGAUUUUUAUUUUUUAUUUUUUAAAUAUUUUUAUGAUUUUAUCAAGUCCUUGUCAAAGGAUGUCUUCACCAUGUUUUGAGAUAAGUCGGGUGUGCAUAUUCAUUCCCACUCCAACUUUAGCGGGCAUAUUAAAGGAAAGAAUAAAAUAAGACAAAAAGAACAUAGGAUGGCAACACGUAGGAUGAUAAAAAUCCGCUUCAAUUAAUAUUUCCAUAAAUCAAGAGUAAUCAAAUAUUAAAAUAUCUGAUUUUCCUAAUUUAGGAUAUAAUAUUUAUUUUAAAUAAAUAAAGAACAAUCAAAUAUUAAUAAUAUUUUAUUAUCUUAAUUUAGGAAAUAAUACUUAUUUUCCUUAAUUUUAGGAUACUUGUUAUUUCUUUCUUUGUAUAAUUCACAAUGCAUUCUUGUAUAAAUUUUCUAAAAGAAACAAUAAAAUUCAUCAUUUUCAUUGCCAAAUUAUCAAAUCCUUUACUAAUGACCUUAUGAUUAAAAUCUUGUUUGUUUGGUAAGCUAUGAAUUUUAAUGAUAUUCCAUCAUUUCUAGGCCUCUCAAACCUUCAAUUUAGUAGGGUUACAAAACAUAAUUUCUCAAACAGCAUUCUUUCCAUAGUCAUAUCUCUAGCCUUGCUAUAAACCAAGACCAUCAAGGACCAAGACACAACAUUCUUGUCUACCAUCUUGUCAAACAACUCAAAUGUUGUAUUUAUAUAUCCUACUUUAACACACCCAUCGAAUAUUAUGUUCAAACUAAUAACAUCUCCAUUUGGCAUUUCAUCAAAAGCCUUGCUCACCUUUUCUUGAUCCACAUGGGCAUAAAUCACUCUCAACUAUUAACACAAACAACAUAGAUUUUAGCCUAUUACAAACCAAACUGAUAUAUCACCCCUAGUAGUUGUAAUUUCCUUCAUUAAUCUCCCUCCCAUUUCCACAUCUCUUUUCUGACACAACCCAUAAAAAAAAUAAAAAAAAAAUCAUGACAUUUGAGUCUAGAUAGGAGAAAGCACAAAUCUCAGUGCACAAAAAUUUGAUUUCAAUCAUUCACAAAAAUUUAAUUUUAUACAUGGUAAAACAUUAUAAUAGUAAAAUAACAAAUUGAGAAGAACUUCCUAGGAAAAUAUAAUCAAAGGAAAACAAGGUAAUCAAAAGACUCAUAUAAUUUUUUACUUCCAUUUUCUAAGUAACUAAAUAGAAAUGUGGCAAGGAAAGUAUCUCUAACUAUGGAUGUAAAGAGUCAUUGUUAAUGAGAAAGGGGUGAGAAUUGGAAUUAUGAAAAGAGUAGAAGAAGACUGCUUGGACUAUGGAGAGUGAAGGAGAAAGAGAAUGCUUGUUGAAAGGGAAAGAGUGGGUUAUUGGGUAACACUUACGGUUAUUUUAGGUACAUUUGAAAAUUUGAAAAUUAUUUUUUAAAUAAUCACCUCUCAAGUGCUUUUCUAAAAAUCACUUCAAGUGAUUUUUUUUCUUUUAAAGGUUUUUAAAAGUGUUUUUGAAAAUUUUUCCAAACAUUUAUUUUUCACCCAAAAACCUCUUUUAAUUAUUCAAAAUGCUAGACGCUCUUCUUAAAAACACUACUAAACAAGUUCUUAAUAAGAUUUUAUUUAUUAUCACAGUUUCUUAGUCUUUAACCAAGGAUAUGUCUAUAUUAUAUAAUAAAAGCAAGGAUAUAAUUUUAUUCUAACUAUUUUUCAACCUUAUUUUCUUUAAAUAUCUACUAAAAUGCCAUUUUAUUAUUGUUCAUUGAUUAACCCAUUAAGAAUGGAAUUACUAUGAUUUCACCCCAACUCCAACUCUCUUUUCUACAAAAAGGAAAACUAAUUUUUUUUAGGAAUAUGUAUGGAAAGGCAAUGUUAUAGAUGUAGUUAUACAUGGAGAUUGAUAGAAGUGAUAGAAGCGGGAUCAUGCUAGGGUUUUAGAGCCAAAGAUGAUGGGUUAGCGAUGAUGGGUCAUAAGGGAAGAGAUGGAGAAGUUAGGAAUUGAGGUUAGAUUUAAGGUUAAGGUUAGGGCUAGGGUUUCAUCAAUGGAUGGUGAUGAAGAUGAAGAUAUGCACAUCCCUUGCAAAAUCUACCAAUAUGAUCCGUUUCUACUACAUAAUCAACUGAAAUUUGAAUCAAUUCUUCUUCUCAAACUAUGAUAAUACGAUUUUAGAUGGUUUUUGAUAAUGAUUUCUUUUCCUCUCAAUGAAACUGUAGAUCAAUUCUAUGUUACAACCCGAAUAAAGGAUCAUUAGGAUCCCUUAAUCUUUAGUUUCUAUUUAGAUUAGGGAAUAAAGGAUCCCUAAGGUCCGUCAAUCUUUAAUUUCUAUUUAGUUUCCUAUAUAAAAUAAGAAGAGCAUAAUGAGGAAAGAAAUGGAAAAAUAAUCUCAGUAAGAAAAAUUUGUUCUCUCAAUUUUGCAUCUUCUCCUUGAGUCAUAAGAAUUGGUAUUAGAACACGGUCUUGGCACUAAUCAUGGCGAAAGGGACUAGAGCGUAAGAACAACAUAGACUUAAAGAUACUAUUAAACAGUUGAAAGAAACAUUGGAUAAACAAGUGACUACCUUAUUAGAACUAUCAAAGAUGGUUGCAACCAUAAACUUGAAAUUCAAACACAUGAAUUCAAGGAUAGAAAAGUAAAGUAAUGGGUAUAAUGCUUCAAUCAAUAAAAGCAUGAUAGACUAUCACUCAUAUGUCAUAAACUCCAUUCAAACCAGGUUUUCCAAACUCAAUUUUCCAAAAUUUGAAGGUGAGAAUUGGGAAUUAGGAAAAGGUUGGAUUGGCUUCCUUACAUUUAAAACAAAGGGCCUUAAAAAGGUUUCAAGGGUGCGAGGCUAGUAACAAGGAAAUCAAUUGGACACUAUUUUAUAUAGAUGUUGUUUCUAGGUUUAGCCCUAGUGUUUAUGAUAGCCUUAUGGGGCAAAUAAUCAAAUUGAAAUAGGUUUCUACAGUUUAGGCAUACCAAAAUUAGUUUAAAGUAUUGAUGACCAAAACUAGUGGGUUAUCAAAGAAUUUUUUUUUUUUGUCUAGUGUUUCAUUAGUAGCUUGAAAAAGGAAAUUAAAAAUCAAGUCACCAUGUUUCAACCAAUCACACUAGCCCAAACCAUCGAGUUAGUCUUGUUGCAGAAAUGAAUAAUGGAGGUAAUUCUCAAGGAAUUCAAGGACUCUAACAAAAGUGGGGAGAGUACAGUGAACUUUACAAGAAUCAUAAUGAAUCAUAAUAACAAAUUACCACCCCUUAAGAAGAUUUUAGCCAUAGAAGUGUAAGAGAUGAAAAAAAAAAUUGUUAUUAUUGUGAUGAGAAGUAUGAUUCUAGCUAUAAAUAUAAAAUGAGUCCAAAUUUUCUAUUAAAUGGUCAUAAAAGUGAAGGGAACGCAACAUCUAAAGCUAAAAAUGAUAUCAAGAGGAUGAUAUUAUGGUUUUAAUCAAUGCAAUAUUUAGUUCACCGUCUCAUCAAACCAUGAGAAUCUAUGACAACAUAAAAAAGAAGGUCGUCACCGUACUAAUUAAUUUAGAAAGCACCCAUAACUUCCUUGAUCUUGUAGUGGCCAAAAGAACAAGCUGCUCAAUACAAACUACCAACCCCAUGAAGGUGGUAGUAACAUAUGGAACUAGAAUUGCUAGUGAUGCAAUUUGUAGGCAAUGUUAGGAUAGAACCCUUAAAAGCAUGACAUAAUGUAAUAAAUUUGGAAUUCAUUAUUUAUUUAAUGAUGUUCCAGUUUCACUUUUAUCUAUCCUUAUUCCAUGUAUUAUACUUUAUAAGCAUUUUUGUCUACAUCUUUUGCAUUGUAUGUGACUUAGGUACAUUAGGAGUUGUAUAGAAGAUCUAAGUCAUGAGUUCUUUGCAAAUAGAUGACUUAUUCACAACCAAUUCAUGGGUCUAGGAAACCCAUUAGAGGUUGUAGUGCACCACUUCCUAAUUGGAGGGAUGGUUGGUCUUGGCUAUUGGGAUGGGUUUCAUAUGAUGAGUGCACUAGUAUGUAUGAAUGCACAUUGGACAGGACCUAUGAUGAGUUAUGACUUAAGGCUAUCAAGUAGUCAUGAUUUCACCAAGUUGCUUCAUUAUGUUGUUUCUCAACCUUGAGAGAAUAUUAAGUUUGUGUUGAAGUUAGCAGUGGCUUCGACCUAUGGGUGAGAUAGUAAGAUGAUCAUAUAUUCCUUAUAGAUUUGAUCACUAUUGAUGGAUGUUGGUAGCAAUAAGUAUUCUCAAUAGAGGCACCAUGAUAUCUCUUAGGAAUAAGAUAGUGUGUCCUUUUGGGUGAUCCUAAGAAGGUGUGUUCAUGGAAACUGUGGCCAUAGUAGUUCCUUAGGUGGAACUUGGCAUAAGCUCUUUGAGAGCUAAGAUAUGUCAAUUUAACACACAAUAAGAGGAUUUGUAACUCAAGAAUGGCAGAGGUAGUAUUAAAAGACUGAUUGCUUUCACCUUGUUAGACUAUAGGCACUAAUUCAUGGGAGGACUGAACACAAUGGAUACUAGGUCACGGACCCAAGCACUUGGUGUAUCAUUGCUAUUUACAUAGGAUAUUGGAUUUCAGUUGGUUCUCUGUAGUGGGAUGUUGAAUCAAAUUUGGAAUUGGAUUAUGAGGGAACCAAUAUUCUUAUGGGUCCUAGUGUCCUCGCUUUAAGCUUAUAUACCUUGUUGGCACUGAUUAUGAGGGUCAGAUUGGCUUUAGGUUCACUUUUGUACAUAAGGACAUUUUGGUAAUCAUGCAAGAUUGCACAAAGGUAAGUGAACAAGGUUUUUGGAUUGGGUUAAUUGAUUAAUUAGGAGGCCCUAUUGGGUUAACUAAUCAAUUAUGACCCAUUUUGGGCUAGAUUAAGUGACCCAAUCCCUUAGUGGACUCAAGUCACUUAAGCCUAGUAGGAAACCCUACAAAUACCCCUUUAGGGGUUAGGGUUCAUAUUGCUUUUUCUAGAGAUCCAUCUUCCAUCCUUAGAGAGAGAGAGAGAUUCAUAGCCUUUAGUCUUCUUUCUAUUCCCACCGGAAGUGUGUCAAUAUCAAGUUUUGACUCAUCAAGCGGAAGACUUUGGGUUUAAGAGACUUCUAAGAUUUUGUUCUUCAUCUUCACCAUGUGGAUUUGAUUUAGGAACAUCCGAAUCUAAGGUAUGGCUUUUGUUAACACUUUCUGAAUCCCUUUAAAGUUUAAAAAUGUUAUUUUUCCUUUGUACAUAGGAUUUAGAAAAAGCCUAGGAUAGUUAUGCAUGUUCCUAACCUGAUCCGAGCUUAGGAAAUGGAGAGAUUCGAGUUUUCCCAUUAGGCAGUUGACAUGAAACAUGUAAGAGAAGAAAUUUUAGACAUAUUUAAGGCUCAUACCUUUGAGUGGGUGCGAUAUGGUAUUGGGAAUUCAAUGGCUAGCUGAAUUGGGACUCAUAUUGUGGGAUUUCAAGAAUUUAAAAAUGGAAUUUAUUAUUGAUGGGAGGAAAUUCAUGUUGAAAGGUGCAACUAUAGGUUCCAAAAAUUUAGUUUCAACAAAUCAAAUUCAAAAGGAUUUAAGGCAUAUGUAUCAAGCAUCUACCAUUCAAAUUUUCACUAUACAAAGGAAUAAGGAAAAUAAAGUUGAAAAGGAACAACAUGGCAACUGUCCAACUCAUUUCCAAGAGAUGUAACAUGGAAAGAUGCUUACAAGAUUCAAUAAAAGUUUCCGUAGUUUCAACCUUGAGGACAAGGCUUCUUUUGAUGGGGGAGGGAAUGUUACAGCCCCAAAUAAAGGAUCCCUAGAAUCCCUUAAUCUUUAGUUUCUAUUUCUACUUAGUUUCUAUUUCUAUUUGGUUUCUAUUUGAUUGGGGAAUAAAGUAUCCCUAAGAUCCCUCAAUCUUUAGUUUCUAUUUCUAUUUAGUUUCCUAUAUAAAAUAAGGAAAGUGUAAUGGAGAAAAACAUGAAAAAAAUAAUCUGAAUAAGAAAAAUUUGUUCUCUCAAUUUUUCAUCUUUUCCUCAUAUCAUAAAAUUCUAAAUGUGGAUUUUCUCCUUUUGAAGCUCUAUAUGAUACGAAAUCAAUUCUCUUUUACUCUAAUUCCAAGUAUGUAUUUAUCGAAAGGGGUAUGCUUUGACUCUCAAUGAACACAUUUUCUCAAAUUUUCUUCAUAGCUAAGUGGAAAUAACAUAAGGCAGUUAAACUUGCUUUGAGAUUAAUUGUGGUUUUGACAAGCAUUUCAUCUAUAAUUCAUUUAUACAAAAUUUUAUUUCAAAGUUCAAAUAAUCAUUUGAAUUUUACAUUUAAAUUUUAUUUUUAAAUUUAAGACUUAAUUAUUUUGUAAUUAGAGUACUUGUCAUAAAAUUGAAGCUCAUAUAUAUAUAUAAAUGCUUCCACUUUCGUACCUGUCAUAAAAUUAGAGCCUACUUUUUUUUAUUUUCUUUUGUGUGUUUAUAAACGUCUCCAAUUCCAUAUCUAGCUAUGAUAUAUUUUUGUAGAUGAUUGUGAUUGAAGUAUAAUUUCUUUUGAUUUUAAUUUUAUAAGAAUUAAAAGUCUUAUCUAAAUUUGAUUAUUAUUCUAGUUUUCUAAAAGUUCAGAGUAUUACAAAGAAACUAUUGAGUAGAAAGAUGUUUCCCUCCAUACAUAUCUAAUUAAAAAAAAAACCACAAAGAAAAAAAAUUAUUAUUCAUCUGUUGUGUUAGUGCAAAAUAUGAAAAAGAAGACAGAAGCGUGCAUCUUCACUGUGACUGAGGAUCAAAUUCUCUUUGAGAUUGAUAUAAAUUAUUUAUAGCUUCAUUGUUCGUGGAGAGUUGAUUCAGUAGUGUCUUCCAUUUGAAGACAUACAGAAAUGGUAAGAAUUAUUUAUUAAUAUGAAGAGAUAACUUGCAUCUAUGACCCUCAUACUCCCAUGAACUUUGAUCUUAUAAACAUAGUGGGCUUGUUUUAUUUAUAAAAUAUAUAUGAAAAGAGAAUAUAAAAAAAUUAUUUUCAUGGGAAGUGUAUUUUGGAAAAAAUAAUUCUCACUUGAUACAUUGGAAAAGUGCCUACCUCAAAUUACCCAAAAAUGACGUUAUAUGUGUACAUGUGUCAUCAUCCAUACUAGCCCAACUUACAUGAGGAUGGUACAUCAUUCAACCAACAAAGGUACUUUAAGCUCAAAACAAUGGUACAUUAUAAUCAAAACAAUGUUACUUUAAUAUCAAAAUACAUGUAAGGACAUUUUCGGGUAAUGUGAGGUAAAUACUAUUCUAAUACAUUAAAUAAGAAUUAUUUUCCCAAAAAUGUACUCCACAUGAAAAUGACUUUUGUGGGUUUUCUUUUAUUUAUAUUUUAUAAAUAGUACAUGUUUACAUAAUUCCCUCAUAAAUAUAAUACAAUCAUCUAUACCUGAUAAUUAAGGAAAUCGAAAAUAUUUACAUACUAAGCAAGGAUAAUGGAAAUUAAAGAGUAUGUCAAAAGAGAAGAAAAAUACUAAAGAUAAAUUAAAACUCUAAAAUACAAGCCUUCAUUUGCACAUAUAGGCUAAUAUCUUAGGAGGUAUUUGAUUAAAUAAUAAUAAUAAUAAAAAAAAUAAUAAUAAUAAUGAUUAAAAAAUGGAAAAAAUUAUGAGUCCCAUUUUUUAAGUGUUUUCAAUAACAUAAUUAUAAACCCCUUAAAAUUUAAAAUCAUUUAUUUAAACCACUUUAUUCAUUUAGCAACAAGGACUUAAUUAAUCACUAAGAUCAAACAUAAUGAUUUAUAUUUUUUAUAAUUUAAUUUUUUUUUCCAUUUUAAUAAAAUGAAGAUUACUAUUAAUAAAACAAAUUAUUAUGAAAUAAUUUUGUUCAUUAUAAAAUUUAUCUUUCUUUUCUAAAUCAGAAUUUUUGUCAUGUCCAUUCAUAUAAUAAAAUUAAAAUUAUAAAUAAAAAAACUUAUUUUAAUUGACAACACCAUGGAAUCUCUCCAUGCACACUCAUGCAGCCAUCAGUUCCCACGGCAACCAUGUGUCUUCCAACAAGUAUAUUUGCUUUCUUUGGCCCUCCAUGUGUUUGUGUUCUAUUUUUAUUUAUUUAUUUUAUCUUGAUUAGUAGUUCACUAAACAAGCAUGACAAGGAUAUGAGCAGAUAUGUCAUGGCUAUGAUCACUUCUAACACUUAACCCUCUUAAACUAAGUGAAGUAUGAAUGCAGUAUGCAAGUCUAAAUAAUGGUGAAAGAAUAAAAACAAAGGAGAAUGCAUGUAAGAUGUAUAUAUAACUAUAAAUAAGGAUUCAAAAUGAAGGGAAAAAUCAUCGAGAAGGGUGAACCAUGGGUGAUAAGCCACUUCAAGGUUCAUCCUUUGGAUAAAUAUUAAAAGUUAAAGAGUAUAAAAAGUCUACACAUGUCGUCAUUUUUUUUUUCACUUUUAAGUUAAAUAUAUUUUUAUUGUUAUAAAUGAAGUAAUGAAUGCCACCACAUUUAUUAUAUUAAAUGUUCAUUAAAAGCCUAUAAAAAUGUUUCUUAUGUAAAAUGCUUCCCAAGCAAAGAAAGAAAUUCUCUUUUCUUAUUCUCUCUUUUUCUUAUUCUCCAUAUCUUUCAUUCUUUCAACUCUCUUAAUUCUCUUUUAUGAUUCCUUCCUCUCCAUUAUAUAUUAUUAUUUAAAUAAUAUGUAGUUGUUCUCUACUUUUAUUUGGGUUGCAUUUAUCCCCUUUUUACAACAUGUUACCAGCACGAAUUGUUCUUAAGGUAAUUCUCAUAUCUUAAACUUGAAGUUAUUUACAUAGAAUAAAAAGCUAUAAGCAAAUUAUUUGAUUUUGAUUAUAAUCAAAAGUUAUACCAAUGCUAUUAAUUUAUAACUAAUUCUAGUAAUAUUUUUUUAACAUAUAUCUAAAGUUAUUUGACAAUGUCAAAUCUCACAAAACUCGAAUUUGUGGCACUUGACAUUUCAGGAAAGAACUAUCUAUCUUGGAUCCUUGAUGCUGAAAUACAUCUUGAUGCAAUGAAUCUUGGAACUACGAUCAAAGUAGGAAAUCAAGCAUCCUUAUAGGAUCACACAAAAGUGUUGAUUUUUCUUCGCCAUCAUUUCUAUGAAGGUUUUUAAAAUGGGUAUCUUAUAGUAAAGGACGUUUUUACUCUAUGGAGUAAUUUGAAGGAAAGAUAUGACCACUAGAAAAUUGUGAUUUUCCCAAAAGCUCGAUAUGAUUGGAUGCACUUAUGGUUGCAGGAUUUUAAAACAAUUAGUGAAUAUAACUCUGCACUUUUCAGAUUCAGCUCUCAAUUAUAGCUGUGUGGAGAAAAAAUCACAGAAGAAGACAUGUUAGAUAAAACUUUACUACAUUUCAUGCCUUAAAUGUGCUCUUAUAGCAGUAAUACCUAGGGUGUAGAUUUAUAAAAUACUUUGAACUAAUAUCAUAUCUUCUUGUUGCUGAACAAAAUAAUGAGCUUUUGAUGAGAAAUCACUAGUCUCAUCCAAUUGGAUUUGAACCAUUCCUUGAAGUGAAUGCAAUAUCGUCUCAAACUCGUAGACGUGGAUGAGGACAUGGUCGUGGUUGUGGAAGGCAUCCCUAAUAUAAUGGUUAUUGUGGUAAUAAUUCCUCAAAUUCUCAUAAAAGGAAAACUUCAUUGCACCACCGAAAGUGGAAUAAUACUGAGGCAAAACAAGAAAAUGGGAAGUGUUUACAAGAUAAACCUCCCAAGAACCAUGAGAAUGAUUGUUAUAAAUGUGGUAUGAAGGGCCAUUGGUCCCAUACCUAUCGUACACUCAAACAUUUGGUCGACCUUUACCAAGCAUCAAUAAAAGCAAAAAGAAAAAAUGUAGAGAUGAACUUUACCAAUGGUGAUGGAUUGGACCUAACCUACUAUGACAUUGAUAUGACAUUGAUUUGUUUGGAGGUCCUAGUGAAAAAACAAACCAUUUAAUAAAUGAUGAGAAUGCUAACAUUGAUUGGUGUUACUUUAUAAAUCAAAUAAUAUAUUAUUAUGUCUUAUAUUUAUAUCUUAUUAUUACAUUUUCUUUUAUAUUGUUAUUUAUAUUAUGUGUUGUUUUUUUAAUAUUAGUUGUAUCUAAAAUCCACGUGUUAUUUGGUCUCAAGAUGAAUGAGGAUGAUGUAUGUCUCAUAAGAUUAUGAAACCACACACACAAUUCUUCGAGAUAAAAGAUAUUUCCUUGAAUUAACAUUGAUAAAAGCUAAUGUAAGUACCAUAUCUAGUACUACAAACUUAGUAGAAGGCUCUAGAAGAGCAAACAUAAUGCUACCAAAUGGAACUAGAUUUCAUAUAAAUGAUGAUUUAUAUUAUAGCAAAUCCAAAAGAAAUUUGCUCAAUUUUAAAGAUAUCCGUAAAAAUGUAUAUCAUAUUGAAACUAUGAAUGAAGAUAAUGUAAUUAUCUUUACAUUACUUCCAUUAUAUUUGGGCAAAAACUUAUAAUAGAAAAACUCUCGGCUUUCUCCUCCAGGUUGUAUCAUACAACUAUAAAGCCUAUUGAAUCACAUUUUUUUGUGAACCAAAAGUUAAACUACCUAAAAGUUUUUGUCCUUUGGCAUGACAGACUAGGUCACCUAGGGUUUUCAAUGAAGCAUCAAAUAAUCGAACACUCACAUGGGCAUCCACUAAAGAACCAGAAGAUUCUUUUGCCCAAUGACUACUCAUGUGUUACUUGCUAACAAGGUCAAUUGAUAGUCAGAUCAUCUUUUACUAAAGUCUAUCCGAGUCACUAGUCUUUUUAGAAAGAAUACAUAGGAACAUAUAUGGGCCUAUCCAUCCACCAUGUGGACCAAUUCGUUAUUUUAUUAUCUUAAUAGAUGCUUCGAUUAGAUGGUCACAUGUUUGUCUUCUUUUUACACAUAAUGUUGCCUUUGCUAGACUCCUUUCACAAAUGAUCAAAUUAUGGGCACAAUUCCAAGGUUAUCCAAUUAAGACAAUAUGUCUUGACAAUGUUGGCAAAUUUACUUCUCAAACAUUCAUUGACUACUGUCUAUCAAUAGGGAUACAUAUUGAGCAUCUUGUUGCUCAUACUCAUACCCAAAAUGGUUUAGCAAAAUCCUUCAUCAAACGUCUCCAAUUAAUAGCUCGACCAUUACUAAUGAAAACCAAAUUACCUACUUCUGCCUGUGGACAUGUUAUUAUGCAUGCUGCAGCUUUAGAUCAUAUUCGACUUAAAACUUACCAUGAAUACUCCCUUUUACAACUCCUACUUGGAAAAAAACCAGAUAUCUCUCACUUACGAAUCUUUGGUUAUGUAGUAUAUGUACCAAUUGCACCCACACAAUGCACUAAAAUGGGUUCCCAAUAAAGACUCGGGAUUUAUUUAGGUUUUAAUUCUCCAUCUAUCAUAAGAUAUUAUUAGAAAAAUUAGGUUAAUCCAACCUAAGGUAAUCAUCCUAAAAUGGGGGGAGAAGGGAGUGAAUAGAGUGAUGGUCUCUUUUUGAAAAUUUAAAUUAUAUGAAUGCAAAAGACUAUUGUAUGCAAAUAUAUAAUAAAACAAUAUAAAGACAAUUGCAUAUAAAGUAAAAGAGUGGGGAAUAGAGAAAGCAAACAUAAGCUUUUUAUAGUGGUUCAGCGUAACCCAACCUACAUCCACUCUCAUCUAGCUUCAAUCCCAAGCUUGAGAUUCUACUAUUUCAAGGCUUCCAAACCAAGACUUCAAGCAAUACAAUUGGAUUAUAGUUCUAAUCCACUUUCUUGGACUUUUGGCCCCAAGCACCCUUUACAAUCCUUAAGAGAUACCCCACUCUUGAACAAUCCCUCAAGUGAUACCCCACACUUGAGAAUCCUUAAAUGAUAUCACACACUUAGGCUUUUCUUCUCAAAGAUUUACAAAUGAAGAUAGGAUUGAAAGGUGCACUAAUGAUAUGAAAGUUUUAAAACGUUGAUGCACUUAAAAACACCCUCCCAAGGCUCAAAUAUAUUCAAGAAGGGUUUUGGAAAGUUAAGCUCUUGAAACAAUGAAGAUUGAAGCCUUUUUAUAGAGGAAAACGACUAAACUAGUCGUUGGGAGUUUGACUGAUCGAGCUGAGGGUUGAUCGAUUGACUAGCCGUUAGCCGCAUUUAAUGCUUGGUAGAGGACCAUUGGACCUUGAACCCCCUUGACCGGACCUUGACUGUUUGAACAAGCAUUAUGGAAGAGAGAGAAGGUUUUUGCACCCUUCGACUGAUUAAGCUGAACAGGUCAACCGGUUCCUCAUUUGGUUCAACCGGUUGUGUCAUUUUUGGCUCAACAACCAUCAUUUUCAACUUAAAGCCUUUUAAACAAGUUUACAAAAAUUUGACACAAGAUUUUAGUUGAAAACAUGAAAUCAUGCAAUUUUAAAGGAUUUAAUAAAAAAUUACUUUUGGAUGAUUUUGCUGCAUAAAUUAAUAAUGUAAUACAUAAAAGACCUAGUACACCAACAACCUUAUAAAGAGAUCCUAUAAAGUUUAGGUCUUGAAAAACACUUCUCUUUGAGGUCUUUUUUUUCUUAAUGAUUUCUCUUUGGUUUGAUUUUGUCUUUUUGAUUGCCACUUUGGAAAUAUUCUUCCCUAAUCAGACUUGAAAUAUAAUCAUUAGUUCCAAACCUUGUUUUAUUAUCAUCAAAACUGAGAUUAACCAAACUUUGGUUUCACAAAUAUCUUGAACCUUUGACAAAUGAUGUUUUAACAGCCCACUUUGCAGAUUGUCGUUUUAAUAAGAGUGUUUUCUUGUCAUUAGGGGGAGAAAAAUCGAUUCCUGAAGAACAGUGGCAAAUUACUUGGAAUGCAUCUACUAUAUCCCAUCUUGAUCCUCAUACAAAUCAAUGUGAACUCGAAGUUCAAAGGAUCGUUUAGUUGCAAAAUCUUGCAAACCAAUUACUAGAUGCAUUCAUUAAUACAAAGAAAGUGACAAAGUCACAUGUCCCAGCUACAAAUACUUUAGCAUGGAUUGAUAUCCCUGAAGGAUAGCUACUAAAUGAAUCUAAGAUACGCUUGAAGCGUGGUAGACUUGUUGGCUCGAAUGAUGUAACUUUUGGAAGAGGAGAACACAAGAAAAACUUUGCACUUUAGAAGAGGUCAUUAAAAUGACUGAUCAGUUUAAAAUUGAUAAGUCUAUAGCCCUAAAAGAGGCACAAAUAAUACAAAAAACCCUUGAAAAGGCACAUAUUGAACAAGAAGGCCCUAAAAAAGUACAUAUUGAACAAGAAGCCCUUAAAGAGGCACAUAUUGAACAAUGAACCCCUAAAAAGGCACAUAUUGAACAAGAAGCCCUUGAAGAGGCACAUAUUGAACAAGAAGCCCUUAAAGAGGCACAGGUACCUGAAAAUUGAGAGAUCUUAUUAAGUUAUGUACACAUAGGAGAAAAAUGGGAUCUAAAUAAUAUUGCUAUUAAUAAUAUUUUUGCUUUCCAAGUGGCUCUUGAUAUCAUAAGAAAUGAUGAAGAUCCCGAACCACAAAAUGUGGAAGAAAUGCCGACAUAGAAAUGAUUGGCCAAAAUGGAAAGAAGUUAUGCAAACAGAGUCAAACUUAUUAACAAAACAAGAAGUUUUUUGACUUGUACUCCAAACACCUGAAGAUGUAAAGCCUGUUAGGUAAAAAUGGGUAUUUGUAUGAAAUUAUAAUGAGAAUAAUGAGAUCAUAAGAUAUAAAGUGUAAUUAGUAGCACAAGUUUUCUUUCAAAGACCAGGUAUUGACUAUAAGGAAACAUACUCUCCCAUCAUAAACACAAUCACAUUUCAUUUCAUAAAUAGUUUGGUAGUCUCAUAAGGAUUAGAUAUGCAUCUCAUGGAUGUUAUUACAACAUAUUUAUAUGGAUCCAUAGAUAAUGAUAUAUACAUGAAAAUCCUUGAAGGAUUUAAAUUGCCUGAAACAAAUAGUACAAAGACUUGUAAUAUUUACUCAAUCAAGUUACAACGAUCCUUAUAUGGAUUAAAGAAAUAUGGAUGCAUGGGGUACAAUUGCAUUAGCAAAUAUUUGCUAAAAUAAGGGUAUGUGAAUAGCACCAUAUGUCCAUGCAUCUUUAUUAAGAAAUUAGAAACUGGAUUUGCAAUUAUUUCACUGUAUGUUAAUGCCUUAAAUCUUGUUGGAACUCCUGAAGAGCUCAUAAGAACAAAAAAUUACUUAAAAAAGGAAUUUGAGAUGAAGAAUCUAAACAAAAUUUUCUAUUAGUCUGCAAAUCGAGCAUGUUCCAAAUGGAGUUUUAGUACAUCAAUCAACAUACAUUAAGAAAAAUUUGAAGCAUUUUUAUAUGAAUAAAGUGCAUCCUUUAAGUUCUCUAAAAGUUGACUGAUCACUUGAUGUGAAAAAAGACCCAUUUCAACCUUGCAAAAAAUUUGAAGAAUUACUUGGUCUUGAAGUACCAUAUCUUAGUGAUAUUGGUGCACUUAUAUAUCUUACCAAAUUUACAUGUCUAGACAUUGCUUUUUCUAUCAAUUUAUUAUCAAGAUACAUUUCUACUCCAACUCGAAGACAUUGAAAUGGUAUCAAACAUAUAUUGCGUUAUCUUUGCAGAACUACUGAUGUGAGUCUAUUUUACUCAAGGGAAUCAAAAAAAAUUUGCUUGGAUAUAUAAAUGCAGGAUACUUUUCAGAUCCACAUAAAGGUAGGUCACAAAUAGGGUAGAUGUUUAAUUGCAAUGGUACUACUGAUUACUACUCAAAAAGUGCUAUUUGAUAGCUUAUAAUUAAUCCUUUUAAACACUUUUGAGUAGUAGUUUUCGCCUUUUAACUCAAUUGGCAUGUUAAGGACCCUUGAAAGCAAUUUUAAUCACUUUGUGUAAGUUUUGGUGUUGUUGUUAGUAAUUUGAUCACCAAAGCAAUCCAAUAUUGAGGAGAGUUAUGUGGAAUCUAGGACAAAGCUUGGAAGUCCUUUGCCAAGAGUAAAUCCGGAAUGCAAGGAGAAGAAGUAAAGAGAAUCUGCCAUGAAGCAUAUUCUUGAUGACAGUCGUGGUAGCCACUUUUGGAGCACUUUCUGAAGUCCAAUUGAUGCAUGCUAUAUACCAUUUCAAAGCUUAGGAAGUUAAAAAUCCAAUGCUUCAAACGGUACACAAUUCGGAGUUGAAACGAAGAAGUUACAGCCAUUGCAAGCAGAUCACUCCAAGCUGAAAGAAGCAUUUUGCAAAGUGUUGCGAAAUCACCCUUUUGUUGCGAAGUGAUUUCGCAGCCUUUUUGUACAGUAUGGUGUAUUUCCUCCUGAAGUUGCCCAAUAUAUGCCGCAAGCUAGAAGCUGGGAACCUCAAGAUGGAAGCCAACUUCGCAGCCCUGCGAGAAUAGCCUUUUGCUGCGAAGUGAUUUCGCAGCCCUUCUUGAGUGUCUGCGAAAUCUCACAGACACCAUUUUCUCUUGCGAAAUGGUCCCUGGAGCAUCCUGAUAUUUGCUACCGACAUUGGGAGAUAUUUUACAUCAGAUUUUUGUUGUCUAAAUCCCAAAAUACUCCUUGUAAGCCACCAAUUACAAGAUUCCUUAGCUUUUAAGUUAGUCAAAAGAGAAAAUAUCUAUGUAAUAAUUAGUUUUAUAUUAUGUUCAUAUAAAUACCUCUCGGGAGCCUAUUCUCAGAGAGGAGGACCCUUUGUAAAGUUUUGAAAAGCAAGUAAAGUUCAGGCCUUUGUUUUGCCUUACCUUCUCACUUUGUAUUAUUUAUUUCUUACUAAGUUAUGCACUCUUUGAGGAAUUUUCCCCAGAGAAUGAGUAACUAAACCUCUAGUUCCUUGGAGCUAAGGUUGCCGGGGAAGGUUCCAAGUGCAAGAAUGCAAAGCUUUGUGGUUUCAGCCAUCAAUGAAGAGGAAGUGAAAUCCUUUAGUGAUUUCUAUGUUUUUAGUUAACUUAAAACACCUUAGAGUCACCUGGGCCAACACUUGGUAAGGCAAGUGAUUUCCAACCAUGGAGAUGCACUAGUUUACCCCUUGUGAGCCUCUGGGAGGUGACUUUAAGGUAGGAUUUUCUGGAAUUGCCAACACUUGGUAAGCUUUUGGACUCCAAGGAGACAUCCAUUAGUUAUCUCUUGCGAGCUUGAGAAGGGAAGUCCAAGGUUAAAGAUCACCUUGAAUGGUUAAGGCUUAGUGAGAGGUUUGAACCAUUGCAAGUUGCAUCAGUGAGAGAAUUAAAGCUGAAAUCUAAUUGAAGGAUGUAUCUGUACAACACCGGUUAGAGAAUUAACUAUAUGUUGAAUCUCUAAAACGAGGAAAUGAACCAUCUGACCGGAGCCAUGUCUUUUGCAUGAGGAACCACCCCAGUGAACCUGACCCUCCAAGGAAUGUUUUUCUUCCUAAGUUAUUCCCAUUACUUGUUUUGUUAGUUAGUUUAAAUCUAAAUCUUUACCAAUUAAAGUUUGUGUUUUAGUUCUUAAGCUAACCUUGAAAUGAAACACUACCAAUUCACUUUGAAUUGAUAUCAUUGAUAAUUUGGAAACCCUUCCCAGUGAACGAUCCUAGAGCCGCUAUACUAUAGUAGCUUUUUCUUUGCUACCCUAGUAUAUGGUGUAAUAGGUUAUAAAUUUUGUUGAUUACUCCCUCAUCCAAGGAGCACCAGCUGGACACGAAUCAGCUGAGACACCAAUUAGGCAUGAAUCAACUAUUAUUUCAUGUAGAUCUAUCAAACAAACAAUGAUGACCACAUUAUCAAAUCAUUCAGAAAUACUUGCAAUUCAUUAAGCAAGUCGUGAAUGUAUAUGACUAAGAUCUAUGAUCCAAUAUAUUCGAGAAUCAUGUAGACUCUCCUCUAUCAAAAGUGACCCGACAAUAUUAUUUGAAGAUAAUGUUGCAUGCAUUGAACAAAUAACAAGGGGUUAUAUUAAAGGAGAUAGAACUAAACACAUUUCAUCAAAAUUCUUUUAUACAUAUGAACACUAGAAGAGUGGUGAAAUUGAUGUGCAACAAAUACACUCAAGUGAUAAUCUAGCAAAUUUAUUCACAAAGUCAUUGCCAACCUCAACAUUCAAGAAGUUAAUACACAAGAUUGGAAUGCGUCAACUCAAGGAUAUUGACAUGAGGGGGAGUAUGCUUGUAAAAGGGUAUUAGUGUAUUGUACUUUUUUUCCCUUCAUCCAAGUUUUGUCCCAUUGGGUUUUACUAGCAAGGUUUUUAAUGAGACAGUCGUAACAUAUCAAGAGCAACUUAAAGAAUUAUCAGAGUAUUAUGGUGGACAUCCAAGGAAGAGUAUUAUAAAUGAAGUAAUGAAUACCACCACAUUUAUUAUAUUAAAUGUUCAUUAAUAUUAUUUAUGACUUCCAUUAAUAUUCAUUAAUGGAAGCCAUUUGGAAAGCCUAUAAAAAGGCUUCCCAUCUCCUGUAAGAUGCAUCCCAAGGAAAUAUAGAAAUUUUCUUUUAUUCUCUAUGUCUUUCAUUCUUUCAACUCUGUUAAUUCUCUUUUUUGAUUCCUUCCUCCCCAUUAUAUAUUAUUAUCAAAAUAAUAUAUAGUUGUUCUCCAUUUUUAUUUGCAUUGCAUUUAUCCUCGAUUUACAACACUUAUUUUGUUCUUUUCUCUAUUUUAUUUUAUUUUUUUCUCUUCUAGUUAUUAUAAUUAUAAUUAUUAUUAUUAUUAUUAUUUUAUAAACAUAAUAUAACCCAUCAAAUAAUAAUAAUAAUAAUAGCAAUAAUAACACAUAUAUAAAUAAUAUAAUAAUUAAUUUAAAAUUUAUGUUUCAUUAGUUAUUAUUAUUGUUAUUAUUAUUUCAAUUUUUUUUUAAAUAUUAUAUAUAACUUAUACAAUAAUAAUGAUAAAAUAAUUUUACGAAUACUGUUUCAUUCAUGUAUUAAAGACAAAGUUUUCUUAUAAAAACUUUUAUAAAUUUUCAAAUGUUUUUUACAAUAUGAUUAUUAAGAAAAUAUUACAAUAAAAAAUUAUUAUUGAUAAUUAUGAAAAAAAGAAAAUUAAAGCAUGUGUUAUCGUAAUUUUAGUGUAUUUAUAUUAUAAUUUCAAUGCAUAACCAUGACACAUACAUUUUGCAACGAACUUAAUAGUGUUAGAAGCAUUGUCGUAUCCUACUAUAUUGAUUUCUAUAUUAGUAAGGCAUCCCAAUGAAUUAGCAUCAUAUACUAGAUGCAUUCUUAUUAGCAAUAAUUCUUAUAAUGAAACUCAUACACCUUAUAAAAAAAAUGUCUUAUAAGGUUAAUUUACAGUAGAUGAAAUGUUAAAAAAAUAUAUAAAAUAUAUGACAACCAUUCAUCAAUGCUUGUUUAAAAGGAAAAUUUUAAAAUAAAGUUAGGUUAUGCAGUAAUGUAUAAGACAUUUAAAGUAUUCAUGUUGUAAGAUCAAUAUAUUUUUGUCGUAUGUAUAUGUUGCCUUUUAUAUUAAUACAUAAUAUCAGUGUACUAUCAUUAUACAUUUAAUGAAUCAUUAUUAUGUAUGAUUUUUAUAAUAAAGCCUAUAAGUUUUAGGAAUUAGAUGGAAAAAAGAUUAUAUCCUAAGAUUGGUUUAUAAUCAAUGACAUUAUAAUAAUAAAAAUAUGAAUAAUAUAAAACUAAUAUCAUAAAUAAUAAUAUUAAUAAUAUGUUAACAAUGAUGAUAAUAAUAAAUGUAUAAUUAUAAUUUUUUUAAUAAAUAAUAUAGUUAGUCUUAACAUAUAGUAAAUAAAGCACAAAAGGUAGAAAAGAAAAGUAGAAAAGUAAAGUUAUAUGGGAGUAGAAGGAAAAGACAAAAUGAUGUAAUUGGGAUUAUGGAAUGAUCAAAUUAUCAAACUAUAACUUGUGGAUUUGAGAAGACUUUGAGACUUGGUGACCCUUAAGGGAGCUUAUCACCACUUUGAGCUGGGUGACCAUUUUUUUAAAAAAAAUUGAAAAUAAAUCCCAUGAAAAAAUUUGUUUAUAAAGAAUAAUAAUAAUUUUGUAUUUUUUUUAUACAAACUAGAUAUUUAAUUUAUUAGAAUAAUUUUGAUGGUAAUGACAAACAAAAUAACUCUAUAAAUAGGUGAAAUAAUUCAUUUUCUCAAUUUUAUAUGCAAAAUUAUUUUAAAACGAAAGGGAUAAUACAUUAUUUUUGUUCAUCAAUCCACAUUUUGACUUUCAUUUUAAAACCCAUCUAUAAAAAUCUCUCUUUAUAUAUAUCUGCCUAGAUUGCCUAAUCAUCUAUUCAUUCAUCGUCUAUAACUUCUUGCCUGAUUAUCAAUUUAGAUGUUCAUAUUUGCAUAUAUUUAUUCAUUCCACCAUGUAUUUUGUUGGCGUAUUUGUAAUGUAUACAAUUUUGAUGAAAUGUUUGAUUAUUUGAAAACCGAAUUUCCCCUUACCCAGUAAUAAAAAGCGAGUAUAAGUCUGACCAAGAGGGGUGUUCUUGGCCUUGGCCGGUGGCCUUCCUGAUAAGUCACCUUAGCCGUAGACUAUAUUUAGAUUUUGCAAUUAGUACCUUUCUUUUCCUUCUAGGAAUGACUAUCAUCUUGACCAAUCUAGCCAUGUACCAAAAAGUCAAUUUUGCCAAGUUUAAAAAGUUUGCUUUAAGCCUGUUCAUCAUAGUUGACAGAAGUUGGAAUUACAAUGAAAUAUCUAGGAGAAAAUGUCCGCAGGAGCAGAGAGAGAGAGUGAAGGCAAUACAUUCAGUCAUGAAUUUGAUGCAAAUCCCAAAGUACAUAAUUGUGUCGAAUACUCUCACCAUGAUUGUCGAUCUCUCGGAUCAGACGAUUACUAUGUUUGCCAAAAAUGCCUGGGCCGUAUGUGGAAUAAAUCAAUUUCACAAGGAGGGGAAACUGCCAAAUUCCGUACAAGGUCACUGGCAAACAGGUUAAUGCAGCCAAGGUAAUAAGAAUCCAAGCCUUCUUUUCACCAAAGUGAAGAUAGAUUGCGCUACUGUAGGCUAUCAUCAUGAAUGUUACGGAGAGGAAUAGAGUAACAAGGCCAAAUAUCAACCUCCUGGGAAGGACAAAAAGAAAAUCAUCUUCAGCAUAUCGUGCCGUGAGAAUGGAUAGGAAUAUCAGCACCGAAGCAAUGGAUAGGAAGAGGGAAAGAGCAUCCGAAACUGCAAAAAAUUUGAAGGUAUAUUCUUCGGAGAAAUUUGGUAUGCCAGUAUCAUCAUGGUUGCCACCCGGGAUGGAAAUUGCUGCUGCAAACACUACAGUAGCAAUAAGCGCUGCUGCCAAUGUGUAAGAUUUUGCUGUGCCUUUCAUCCAUUUCUCUCCUUCUUUUAUCAACUCUUUAUGUUCCUUUAUAAAUACCAUUUUUGGUGUCUCUUGUUCAUCGUUCUCAAAUUCCCUGAAGGCUUCCGGUGCAUAUUUUUCGAUUUCCUGUGUAAAAAUCAAAAUGUUUCUAAGACACAGAAAAAGAGUGGACAUGUAUAAGAAAAUUAAUUCCCCUUCAAAACAAAAAUUAUUACCUGAAACCAAUGUAACUCACGUUGCAUUUGUAGAGCUGCACCAGAAACGAGACUGAGCCGGUGUGGAGGGGCCAAUUUUCCAGCCAAAUGCAAGAUAUUGUUAUUUGAAUCACCUCUGAUUCGUAUUAUAAAUUGUCUAUGCAUACCGAUUUCGCAGAUGAGGUUGAAAAUCUUUUCAUAACGAUUUAAUAUUGCCAAUUUGAAUACUUCCUCAUCCAGAUACUGAAGUGCAGAAGGAUAUAACUUUAGAAUGUUUUCCAGAAUUUCGGGAAUUCCAUAUUUUGCCCCAUUAAUGAAUGAUUGGCUGAAUAUUUCCUUUGCUCUUGGUACUUCCAAAUCUUCAACUUUAGUACAUAGGUGGUUAAGCAAUUGAAGAGUCUGAGAAUGCAUUGUUUUUGUUUCUUGGAUUUGCUUGAUGGGUGGUACUGCAAUUAAACUUAUAUUAAGGACAACAUAUCAUUGCAUUCAAGACUUUUGCAUGCUUUAGUGGAAGUUUUGUUGUGUCCCUUACCUAACCGUCCAACCAGUUCACAGAAUAUUGCAUUCGCCUUUUGGCAAGCUGUGUGCAGGAUAAAAUUGAAGCAGUUCAGAUGCAAAAGCAGGAAUAACAGAAAAAAAAAAAAGAAAAAAAAAGAAAGAAACAAUCCUGAACAAAGUACCAAUUAAACACUAAUCUAAAUUAAAGUGAUUGUGAGUAGUAGUUGCCAACUCAUAUUGGUUGGUGUAGAGUUUGUGUUUUCUGGCUAUCAUUAAGUUAAUUAAAUAUACGAUGCCAGUUUGCUUGAAUAAAUUAAGUUUCAAGAUUCACACCCUUGAAUUACUUAUGGCCAAUCUGAUAUUCAUCUUCACAUGUACAUGAAUUUGGGGUUUGUUAUGGAAAAAUGAGAAUAGGCAACAAGAAAAAUAAGAACACAUAGAUUUAUGCGAAAAAUCCUAGAUGGGAAAAACCACGGGCAGAGGAGAAAGAUAAUCCAUUAUGUCAAAAAUUGGUACAAAAAGGGGAGUGUAUCAAGUGGCUACUAUAUAUAUCCUUGAAAACCUAUACACCAUUAAAAAUAUAUACAUAUAUGGGAGAGAAAAAAAUAAAUAAAGCAGGAAAAUCCAUAAUUUUUCUUCACCAUAUAUGUUACACCGCAAACUUUUUGGGUUGGACCAAAAAAGGAAAUCGGGUCACCAAGCUCUAACAAUCUCCACCUUGACAUAAAUUCUAAUGUAAGGAAUGAAAAAACAAACUCCAAUCUUCAACCAAAACUCUUCACCUCUUCCACAAACCCUAAAGGGCAACUCAAUAACGAAUACUAACCAAGUCCAAGCAAUGCUCAAACUUUGCUAUAGAGAGUGUCUUGGUUAUCAUAUCAACAGGAUUAUCAUGGUUGCUAACUUUGCCCAUAACAAAGCAAUGAUAUCACGCACAAAAUGAUACCUCACAUCAAUGUGCUUUGUCCUAUCAUUAAACAUUCGAUCUUUUGUGAGGAAAAUAGCACUCUAACUAUGACAAAAAACUGUGGUAAUCUGUAAGUUGUCACUAAGUUCACCAAAUAGUUUCCUUUCAAGCCUUUGUAAUAGCCAUGUACUAAGCCUCUAGUAAACAAAGCAACUGUAAUCUACAAAGUAGCUUUCCAACUAAUAGCACAACUACCAAUAGUAAAAACAUACCUUAUAAGAGAUCUUUUAUCAAGGUCACUUGCAAAAUCAGAAUCGACAUACCCAACAGCUCCAUCUCUAACUCUCCCAAAAUGCAAACAAACAUCAGUAAAGCCACACAAGUAUCUGAACAUCCAGUGAACUACUUUCCAAUGUUCUUUACCAGGAUUUGUCAUGUAUCUACUAACUACACUAACUGCAUAUGAUAAAUAUGAAUGUGAACAAACUCUUAUACUGCUGUCUAGGUGACUUUUUUAAGCCAUAGAGAGAGACUUUUUCAACAAACACACUUAGUCUUUCUUUCCUGAAACUAUAAAACCCUUAGGCUACUGCAUGUAGAUGUCCUCCUUAAGUUCCCCAUGUAAGAAUGUUGUCUUCACAUCCAACUGCUCAAGCCCAAAAUCAUACAUGGUCAUAAUAUCAAGCAAAGCUCGAAUCAAACUAUGCUUUACAUUUGGAGAAAACACAUUAGUGAAGUCUAUACUCGAAAUCUAAUCGUAGCCCUUUACAACUAAUCUCGCUUUAUACCUAGCUUCUUCAACUCUUGGUAUUCCUCCUUUCCUCUUCAACACUCAUUUGCAAUUAAAAAUCUUUUUACCCUUAUUUAGUCUCACUAAGUCCCAUGUGCCAUUUUUAUGAAGUGACCCCAUCUCCUCCUACAUGACAAUCAUCCAUCUAUUAGAAACAUCACAAUUAACUGCCUUUGAGUAGGUAGAAGGUUUUGCACUAGAAUCAAUACCUUUGGCCACAUUUAAGGCAUAAGCAACCUAAUUAGCCUCAAUAUACCUCUGUGGAGGUUUAAUAUCUCUUCUAGUCCUAUCUUUAGCAAUAGAUUAUUGUGGUGAUGGUUGUGGUGGUGAGAGAGCAGCAACACCACUCUUCAUCCCUGAACUAGACUAAGAUGUAGAAUCUAGUAUGGAUCCUAAUUCAAUCUAAAACUCCACCUGUGUGCUUGAUUUCUGUUGCUUUUUUUUUUUUCAUAAGAAUCUCUAAAAGAUAAGUCACAAAGCAUAGCAGUUUCCUAAAAAAUAUCUUUAUUGAUUAUGACUUUAUUUGUUUUUGGACACCAUAACUUAUAUCCUUUAACACUAGACUUGUAGCCAAGGAAGAUAGAUUUUAUAAAUCUAGGUUCCAAUUUUCCAUUAUCAACAUGAGCAUAGGUAGGACAUCCAAAUAUCUUCAAAUUUGAGUAAUUAGCAGAAGUACUAGACCAUACCUCUUAUGGAGUCUUUUUGUCAAUAGCAGUUGAAGAAGAGCAAUUAAUGAGAAAACAAUCAAUAGUGGUAGCUUCAACCCAAAAAGAUUUAGGUAAACCAACAUUGGAGAGAAUACAACAUACUUUCUCCAUCAAAGUCCUAUUCAUUUGCUCUACCACACUAUUUGAUGUAGAGUAUGACAAACUGUGUGAUGCCUCACAAUUCCUUCUAACUUGCGUAGAGCAUUUAAUUCAUCAUAACAAAACUCCAAGCCAUUAUUAGUGCAGAGAUGUUUUACCUACUUCUCUAUCUACUUCUCAAUCAUAAUCUUCCAGUCCUUGAAUGUAGCUAGCACAUCACUCUUUUGCUUCAAGAAAAACACCCAAAAUUUUCUAGAAAAAUCAUUAAUGAUAGUCAACAUAUAACUAUAACCUCCCUUAAAAGGCACCCUAGAUGGUCCCUAAAGAUCAUAAUAUAUAUAACCAAGUGUCCCUUUUGUCUUGUGAAUGCUUUUUAUGGAUUUAACUCUCCUCUGCUUCCCAAAAAAGCAAUGCUCAUAGAACUUCAGUUUACUAAUACUUUGCCCAUUAAAAAUUCCUUUUAUACUCAGUUCAACCAUCCUAUUCUCACUUAUAUGCCCAAGAUGCAUAUGGCAAAGUCUAAUAACAUCACCAUCUGACAAUGAAAGAGUUGCAACAGUUGCAUCACCUGUAACUAUAAGACCUUGCAAGACAUAUAAUUUGGAAGACCUUUUCUACCCUUUCAUCAUAACAAGAACACUUUUGCUAACCUUCAAGACUCCACCCUCACCAAUUUACUUGUACCUUUUUGAAUCAAGAGUACUCAACGAGAUAAGAUUCCUCUUUAGAUCUAGGACGUGUCUCACAUCACCAAGUGUCUUAACAAGCAUAUCAAACUUUUUAAUUUUGAUCAUUCCAAUACUAGCUAUCUUAUAAGAUGCAUCAUUUCUCAUCUACAUAACACAUUUGGACAUUGUUUCAUAUGUUGAAAAAUAGUCCCGAUUGGGACACAUGAAAUGUGCAAUCGGAAUCAAGAAUCAAAUCUUUGUAAGGUUUGGAGUCGCUAUAAAAAAAAACUAGGAGUUUUCCAUCACUAUACUCAUCUUCUACAACACUGGCUUCACCAGAUUUUUCUAGUUGUUUUCCCUUCUGAUUUACAGCAACUUUCUUAUUCUUAUUCUGCAAUUUAUAGCAUUCAGAUUUGAUGUGCCCCUUUUUCUUAUAGUAUCUAUAGGUUUUUUGUCUUUAUUACUACAUUUCAAUAUGCCCCUCGCAUCACCACCAAAAUUCCUCUCCUAUAUCCUCUCUCAAACAACAAGGUCCUCUACCUGAGCCUUAGAUCCAAUCACAAGCUACUUCAUCUUUUCCUUAGAAUAUAAAGCAUAAAAAACUUUCUCCAGUAAGAGUGUCACGAUUAUACAAAAUAGUAUCUCUAAAAGUCGUAUAUAAAGAGGGCAACAAACAUAAUAAAAUCAACCCUAAAUCUUCUUCAUCAUACUAAACCUCCAUGGUCUCUACAUCAAAAACAAUUUCUUUAGAGACGGUUAAGUGAUCUUCUAAAUACAUACCUUCUGUUAUACGAUGAGAAUACAGUCACUAUUUUAGAUGUAACUUGCUAGUUAGACUUUUCAUCAUGCACAAGAAAUUUUUUCUUUCAGAAUGUCCUAUAAAAUUUGAUUUGACAUAUGAAGAUGAAUUUGAGAUAGGGCCUUUUGAUCAUUACGUUGUUUUUUCUCCGGUGUCCACGAUGAGGGCAUCUUGUCAAACCCUAAUAGGAUUAUACCAAAAAAAGAAAUCGAGUUACCAAACUCUAACAAGAUUCAAUAGGUUUCAUAUAUUUCCCUUAAACCAUACACUUGAAUUUAAAGGCUAUAAUCAAGAAACCUAAUGAAAUUUGGUACAAACUCAAUCACUUGACCUCUUUUUAAUUAACUAGGAGCAUUAGGUGACAAAAUAUUCACAAAAUCUAUCAAAACAAUGCAAAUUGUGUAUCCUGCAUAAUUCUUUGAGUAGUAAAGUAAUAUCCAUUGAAAUUUGAUCAUAGAGCUGAUAUUAAAUCAAUUACUUGAACUUAAAGGAAAAAAAUGAAGAGAAUUUUGUGAGGACAAACUAAAGUUGUGAGGAUUAAUCAAAAUAAAAAGUUGAAUUCAACAAAUUGGCAUUUCUCUAAUGGGUGCAAUUUGGCAAAUUAGUUUAACCUAACUCGAAUCUCGAUGAAGUUAAGAAAACAUUUUUAGUACUCAAGUUAAGAUUUGGUUGACUUUCUUAACCAAAAAUUAAUUUGGGUUGACCUCAAUUUUGGGCUUAGUUCAAACCAAUGCUUCAAGAAUCUAAGCCUAAUUAAACUCCAUUUAAUAUUUUAUAAUAUUUAUAGAAUGUAUUACUAUAUAAUAAUAUCAAUUUUUUUUCUAGAAUAAGUUCAAGGGAAAAAACAUCAAAAUAUAUUAAGCUAACUCUUAAAAAUUUGCCUACUCUUUGUGAACACUAUUUGGAAGGAAAAUUAAUAAGGAAGCCUCUUAAGAAAGCCCCAAAGGUAUAUCGUCCUUUUAGCCAAGGCAUUCUAAAGUACAAGGCCUAAUGAACAUGAGAGCUAAGCAUGGUGCCUACUACUUCAUCACAUUUAUAGACAAUUAUGUCUACAAGUCCAAAGAAUUACUCUAGUUUAGAUGUUAUAUGAAUAUUGUAGAAAACUGAAAAGAAAAAACUAUUAAAGCAUUAAGGAUAAAUCAUGGACAUGAGUAUCUAUUAAAGAUUUUUUAAAAUCUCUAUGAUGAAAAGGAAAUCCAAAGACAAUCAAUAGCUUCAAGGACUCGAUAGUAAAUUGGUUGAAUUGAAAAAAGUAACCAUAAACUUUUGGAUAUGGUUUACUUAAAAUGACAUAAGCCAACUUUCUAAUAUCCUUGGGGAGGAAGGGUUACUGUUUUGAUUGUAACUUAAAACUUGAAUAGAGUACCCUCAAAAUCAAUUACUUCAAACCCAUAUAGUUGUGAAAAAAAAGAAGUAAAAAACUAAACCUAACUCACUUGUGAUCCUAAGGCUUAGUAGGUUCAAUUCAUGUAAAUUCUCAUAUAUAUUGUGCUAUAAAGGAAACAAGUAAAUUUUCAUUAGAUAUUCUAAUAAAUCAAAGGUUGUGUGAUGCUUAAUGUACAACUCACGAGAGUAUAAUUGAAGUUAAGUCAUAUGAAGUUAGUUUCUUAUAGGAUGAUAUUUCGAGUAGAGGAGCAUUAAACAAGAGUCUUAAUUUAUUUAAGGCAAUUAAACCAAAGGAAAAUACUGUGAUAUCCCACAUCGAAUAUAGGAAAAAGUUCUUGACAUUAUAUAUGUAUGAGCUCCUCUUAAUUAUUUAGACACAUUUUAACAUUGUGAGGGCUCUUUAAACCCAAAGCAGAUAGAAUAUAUUUACAUAGUUGGGAGUGGGUCGUUAAAAAUGAUAUUAGAGUAUAUUCUCAACCCCAAUGUGGGAGUUUGUUUAGCCUCACAACGGAUAUUUGUUUGUUUGGUCUUGCAAUCCUAUGAGACAUAAUAAGUAUGUUAUGUCUCUCUGGGGGUGAUUGUGAUAUCCCACAUUGAAUAGGGGAAAAAGUUCUUAGCAUUAUGUAUGGACUCCUCUUAACCAUGCAAGUGUGUUUUAAAUCUAUAAGGACCCUUUAAGCUUAGAGUAAACAAUAUUUACAUGAUUAGAGUGAGUUGUUAUAGAUGUUGAAGAUCUUGCUAAGGAUAUGAGUGACUCGACAAUUUUCAAGACUAUAAUUUUAAGUAGUAGCCUACCACCUACUUAUGCCACCAAGUGGGAUUUUACCAUUACAUAUUAUUCACUAGAUUUAGAUGUUUGUGUAGAAAACUUGGAACUAUCCCAUCAUUGUCAUUGUGGGCAUUAGGGUGAAGCUUUCAUGUUUGCUUCAUAAGAUCAUGAUGUUGGGAUAGAGCUUUAAAAAGUAUGAUAUGAUGUAACCAUAAAUGGAGUUCAUUAAUACUUAUAUUAUGACUUCGAUUUUCUAUUCCCUAUCCUGUUCAUGAAUUAUGUAUAUUGAGCAUUUAAACCUACAUCACUUGCAUAGUACAUGGGUGAAUUAGGAGUUGCAUAGAAGAUCCCAAUCAUAGGUUCCUUGCAAGUUAAUAACUCAUUCACCAUUGGUUCAUGGACCUAGGUAAUCCAUCUGAGGUUAUAGUGCAUUAUCUCCUAAUUAGAGAGAUGACUUACCUUGGUCAUUAGGAUGGGUUUUCCAUGAUGAGAAACUAGUGUGUUUAGUUAUGCUGGGAAACCUAGAUCUUUUCAUUCCCAUAACCCUUGAUUGUAUAGGUGCAUGCAAAAUACCCUAGGCCUCUAGAUAUUAUUCAACGUGAGAAAAAAUCAAUUUUUUAAUAUUCUAGAACCUAGAGAAAAGUCAUUAGAAAACUUUAUCUUUGAUUUGGACAGUUCUCAAAUCAAUUUUGCUUAGUGAAGAUGAAGCUUAAAGACUCCAGAGGUCUCGUACACCUAAGAUCUUUCACCCAAUGACUCAAUCCACAAUCUUGCCACUCCAUGGUGUGGGCUUUAAAAGGGUAGAAUCCUAGGCUCACUUUCUUUUUCUAAAGAUAGAAGAUGAUUGAUCUUAAAAAGCAAUGAAAACCCUAAUCCUUAAGGGGUAUUUAUAGGGUUCUCCUACUAGACUUAAGUGACUUGAGCCCACCAAGACUUAGGUCACUUAAUCAAGCUCAAAAUUGGUCUUAAUUGAUUAAUUAAGCAUAUAAGGUCAUCUAAUUAAUCAAUUAGCCCAAUCCAAAGACCUUGUUUAUUAUCCCUUGUGUAACCUUUCAUAAUUACCAAAAUACCCUUAUACAUAAGAGUGAACUUAGAGUCAAUCCAACCCUCAUAAAACUAUGCCAUAAUGGUAUAUGAGCUUAGAGUAAGGACCAAUUGGAUAGAUAGGAGGACUAACUCCUUCAUAAUCCAAUUUUGGAGUUGAUUCAACAUUCCACUAAAGAGAAUUAAUGGAACUCCAUUACCCUAUAUGAAUAAUAAUGAGAUGAAGCUUAGAUCCGUGACCUACUAUCCAUUGCAUGUAGAGUCCCCAUGAACUAAUGUCUAUAAUCUAAUAAGGUAGUGUUAUCACCUGUCAAGAUUUUCUCUUCAAUACUUAAGUUAUAGAUCCCACUUAUUAUGUGAUCAAUUGACUUUAGCUUGAAGGAGUAUAUGUCAAAUUUCCAUUAAAGGAAUUAUUAUGGCCAUAGUCUUCUAGAUCACAUGUCCUUUGGAUCACCCAAUAGGACAUAUUUUCUCAAUCUAUAAGAUAUCAUGGUGCCUCCAUUGAGAAUAUUUUUUGCCACUAGCCUCCAUCAACAGUGAUCUAAUCCAUAAGGAUAUAUGGCCACUUUAGAGUCUCACUCAUAAGUCAAAACCUCAUGUUGGCUUUGACACUAACUUAAUAUCCUCUCAAGGUUGAGAGUCCUUACCGUAUAGUAGCAUGGUGUAUCAUGACAAUUGAUAGCCUUAUGUCUUGACUCACUAUAGGUCGAGUCUAGUGCAAAUCAUAUGCACUAGUGCACUCACCAUGGGAAAACCAUCCUGGCUAUCAAGAGAAGUCAUCCCUCUUAUUAGGAGGUAGUGCACUACAAUCUUAAAUGAAUUUCCUAAAUCCAUGAACCAACCAUGGACAACUUAUCACUUUGUAAGGAACCCAUAACUUUGGAUCUUCUAUGAAACUCUUAAUGCACCCAAGUCAUGUAUAGUGUAAGUGAUGUGGGGUGUGUAUGUUCAAAUAACCAAUUAAUGCAAAUGGGAUAAUAAUAAGAAACCAAGAAGCAAAAAUAAAUAAAUUUAUAAAAGAAUCUCUAUAUCUUACAUCAUGUCAUGCUUUCAAGGGCUUAAUCCCAAUAGGCUACACAUUAGAUAGGACUUAUGGUAAGUCAGACAUUAGUUAUUAGGUAGUCAUGACUUCACCAAACAACUUUGUUGCAUGAGCUCUCAACUUUGAGAGAAUAUUGAUCUAGUGCUAAGGUCUUCAAUGACUUUGACCUAUGAGAGAGACCCUAAAGUGGUCACAUAUUCUCUAUGGAUUGGGUUACUAUUAAUUGGGACGAACAGGUAUUCUCAAAAUAGGCAUCAUGAUAUCUUAAGGGUUUGAGACAUUAUGUUCCCUUGGGUGAUCCUAAGGACAUGUGACCAUGAAAACUAUGGCCACAAUAAUUCCUUAAGUGAAAUUUGACAUAUGCACUUAGACAGAUAUAGUAUGGCAGUUAAUAAAAUAAUAGGAGGAUUUAAGAUUAAAGGAUUAUAAAGGUAGUCUUGAAAGGUUGAUAACAUUCAUCUCGUUAAAUUAUGGAUACCAAUUCAUAGGAAGCUUGCAUGCAAUUGUUAGUAGGUCAUAGCCUCAAGUCUUCUAUCUCGAUCUAAUAUCAUAGGAUACUAAAGUGUAGUUGACUCUUUAUAGUUAGAUGUUGAGUCAACUUUAAAAUUGGAUUUUGAGGGAGCUAGUACUUUUUUAUGCAUCCCGAUGGUUCCCACUUGAACUCAUAUUCCUUGGUGACAUAUUAUUUGAGGGAUAGUUGGGUUCUUUAUUCAUAUGUGUGCAUAAGAGAAUUUUGGUAAAUACAGAAGGUGACACAAGUGAUUAUACAAGAGGUAAAUAUAGAAAAAAUGAUACAACCAAAAUGAGAGUGUAAAGUAAAAUAAUAAACAGAAUAAUAAAAAACUUCUUAUGAGUACUAAGGUUUGCCUCAACUCUCCUCAUUCAAACCAUUAUCAUGCCUUUGGAUUUGGAAUUAUACCAAAUAAACAUUCAAAUCACUUUUCUUAAUGGAGAAAUGAAUGAGAAGAUCUAUGUAGAUCAAUUGACUUGUUUUAUGGCAACUAAAUAGAAGGGUAAAGUUAACAACUACGAAGGUCUGUUUAUAGCCUAAAAUAAUCUUCUAAACAAUGGUAUAUUACACUAAUUGGUUUAUGAUGGUCUAAGAACACUACUACAUGUUUAUUAAAUGGAGUAAAGGUAUAUUCUUUAUUUUUAUUUUUUUCUAUACAAAUGACAUGUUAGUUAGGGAUGACAAUGAGAUCGUCAUUGCCUCUAAAGUGUGGUGGUCAUCAAAUUUUAAAAUGAACAACAUGUUUAAAGCAAACUAUGUGCUCAAAGUUAUGAUCCUAAGCAAUCAAUAAAGUAGAAUUUUUCGUUUGUCUUACAAAUCAUACACAACAAAUAUUCUUGAAAAAAUUCUAGAUGUAAAAUUGAAAACCUAUUAGCACACAUAUAGAGAGAGUUAAAACCUUAAGCUUUAACAUGUGUCUAAGACUUUGGAUGAAAAGAAAAAGAUCACUCAAGGUUCCUAUAUAUGCUAGCAUUGUUAGUUGCUUAAAGUACCCAAUGAUAUGAACAUGAACUAAUAUUUAUUACAUAAUUAGGUUAGUAGGUUCCGGUUAGAUCCAAACCUUGCUUACAAGAAAGUAGUGAAUUGGAUGCUUUCUUACCUCAGAGGCACCAUAGGGUGUAUAAUUGUUAUUGAGGAUUGAAUUUGCACUUGAUUGGCUGUAACAAUGCUAAUUGGGGUAGCAUCCUAAAUGAACCCAAAUCCACAUAUAAUUAUAAUUUUAUAUAUGCUCCAUGAUGUUAGCAUAUAUUGGAGAAGUAGAAAACAAUCAUUUAUGACAUUGUCUAUCAUGGAGUUAGGAGUACAUUACUUAUCGUUUAGGAAAGUGACUAGUUUACAAUGUUCUUACAUAUGUUUUAUAAUGUUUCAUGUGCUUUUGAGCAUACUACUAUUUAUUGUGAUAGCAAGGAAGCUUUAGCCUAUGCCAAAGAGCCCCAACUAUCAUAGUUGAACCAAACACAUCAAUCUUAAAUAUUAGUUGUUAUAAGACAUGGUUGCAUAGGAACAUAUUUCUACACGUUUCAUGGUUACAGACUGAACCCCCCAUCCCUCCAUUGACUAAGUUAAUACGUAAAUAUGUUUAUUAGGGUCAGGUUGAGAACAUUGGAUUAUGUAGAUCAUGAUUACAUAGGAGUUAAGUUGAGAGCAUUGGAUCAUGUAGAUUAUGAUUCCAUAUUGUAUAUUUCAAUUAACCAUUAUACCUAGGAUUUAUUCAUUGUUCAAUCUUGUUUGAUGGUGGCAUGUUAUUUGCUUUACUUUAUUGGCAUGCACUUUCAUUACUUUGCACAGUGAGCAAAGUUGAAACAUAAUGAGUCUGAACCACUUAGAUAGUGUGCUAGGUCAUUGAUCCUUGUUGUGUCCAAUAUGACUUAUAUGUUAGUAGUGAAAGAGACCAAGUAUAAAUAGUCCUAUAGUCCAUACUUUACUUGUAAUGGAGUUAAUUGCCAAAUGACAUUAAUGUAGUGCUUGAUUUAGCAAGCAUAUGCAAAACUUAAGUUCUUUGCUUGAUGCAACUGAACUAAGAUUUGUAUGAUAUAGAAGAACUAAGGUACACUCAUAAUGAAGAUCUCCAUGGUAGCAUGCAUUUUCAUACUAUAUCUUCUUGGCAAUCAAAUAAGAAUGAAUGAAUAGAUUCCUCCUUCCUUGUCAUGUGUAUUAAUCUUAUAUAGGUCAUUAUAUAGUAUAACUUUUAUGCUCUUGCAAUUUUCAUUCAUAAGUUAUAAGUAUGGUGUAUUUUGAAAUAUUUUUCUAAAGGGAUUAAUGAUGCUUAAUUCAAUGUGAAUAAAUGUGUUUAAGGUAUAACAAGAAACCUUUUGGGAUGAAUUAUACAAGUUGAGAUGAAAUUUAUUUUAAUACUCCACCUUUCUUAUCAAUGUGUUCCAUAGUUGUACAAUCCAUUAGUCAAUAUGAACAUGGAUGAUAAUGAUAUAGUUGAGAGAUGCAUGACAUUGUUUUGCCUAGUAUGCAUGAGUGGGAGACAAUGGAGUUUCUAUUUCAUGAGAUACUCUCAGUAGGACUUUAUCAACUAAGAGCUUGAGAGUAAGUUGCAUACUUAUCAGUUAAGAUUCCUCUUGUGAGAGGAGGUUCACAUUCAGAUUUGGGGAGAAUCUAUAAGAGUUGUUCAUGUUUUGCAAUUCCAAUUCUAGUCCUUUCCCAUGUUUUCAAUUUAGAUUGUCGCAAUUGUUAAAUAUUUUUACUUUAGUCUUUAGCAAUUAUAAUUUUUUAAAGCUUGCUAUUUAGGUUUAGAUUUACUAGAUGCUUAUUAGAUAUCUUAAUUCUUGUUGUAUUCUCCUUGGUUAAUAAUCUUUGAUUGUGGAGUUCAAAGCUUUUUACCAAAAUAGGGAUAACGGUUUUCAAUGUUAGGGAAAGCAUUUAAUAAAAUUAAUUCUUGAAUAAGUUGGCAUGCUAAAUCUUUCAAUUGAACCUAAUAAGUUUACAUACUAAAUCUCUCAUUUUCAACCUUGGUUGUUUCCACUCUUUGCAAUUUAAUUAGGUUUUCUUUAUAUAUAUGUGUGUGUGUGUGUGUGUAUAUAUAUAUAUAUAGAUAGAUAAUUUAUUUUGUGUACCUAUAUAACUAAGUUUUUGAGUAAUUAUGAGUUGUAUUGUUACAUUUAGUAGAAUUUGACAAACUAAAUAAAUGAAGUGCUUACCUUUGAAAAAUUGAGUCCAAUAGCACAUUUGUGUGGAUAGGUCACAUCUACCAACUUGAUUCUCCAUGCUUCCUCUAUUAGGUUGACUAAGAAAAUAGUUUAAUUUCACAGGAGCACCUUAAGGACAAAAAUAUCAAGAAAAGUGAAGGAAAAUUAUGCUUCAUCUAAUAUGACUAUAGGACUUAAAUGGAAAAAAACAUAAUAAUAUAAUAGUUAUUAUAAUGAAUAUAAUAAAAAUAAAAUUUUUCAUGAUCUUCCCAAUACUCAUAAAGCCCCUUUCAAUGAAACUUUGUAAGCUCUACUAACACAAAAUAAUAGUCUGUAUAGUAAAAGCUCAAUAAAUGAGUGCUUGAUAAAUUAAUAACCUUAUUUGAAUAACAGAACCUUCUGGUCUUAACUCAGGCUAGUGUACUAAAUUAUAUAUAUAUAUUAAAAAGAAAUUCAUAAUACAAUAUUAGGUAACUUUUUAUAACUUUUAUUUUUCUAAAUUCACUUGUUUUGGAAUCAUCACAUAUUUAAAAUAUCUUUAUCUUUUACAACAUUAAGUUUUGAUGUCAUACCUAUUUUUUUAGGAGUCUUUCUAUCUUUUACAAUCAAUAACGAUCCUUUUUUUUUAGUCUCUUAGGUUUCUAUGUAUUAUCUUUUUACCAUAUGAAUUAUUUUUAAAUUUAUAAGUCAUACAUGUACCAAUAUUGUAUACUAAUAACAUAAUACUCUUUAUAAAUUAAUGAAUAUUCAUUUAUCGAUAAAUCUAAGAUAAUAAUUUUUCUUGGUCCCAAUAACAUUAUUUUAUAAGAUUUUACCCUAUAUACUUCCUUCAUUGUAGGAAUUUCUUUAGAUUAAUAUUUUUAAGUAAUAGUUGUACUUAAAAAAAUAUAUAUAAUGGAAGUUAAGAGAAUUUUGAAGUUAUAAAUUAGUGUUUUAUAUCAUUUGUUUGUCUAUGAAUGCUAAAACCAUUGUCAAAUAAAAAGAGUAAAUAAAGUAAUUAGUUAAAAAUUAAAUAAGUGACUUAAAAUUACUACUUUGGUACAUGUUUGUUUGAGGUAUAGUAGAUCGUAAGAAAUAAAAUCCUCUAGUUAUGUUUAUUUGAUAGAAUAAAAAAGUGAGUGUGUGGUUGCUCUACAAGAGAAGACCACACAUUAGUCAAAGAAAAAGUAACCAGAAAGCUUGCACAAGUGUUGAAUGAUCAAUCUCUCACCUAAGUGCACUAAUGAGAAAUAAAUGUUGAAUUAAACCAUAGUCAUGCACUCGUGCCAAGGCUCAUGCCUCCAUAUGGGAAAACCUUAAUUGCUCCAAAGUUUAAAAGUGGCCACAUCCUCUAUGCCAGGUAAGUAUUCCAAAAAUCAAGAAAGUUAACCUUUGAGUUGAUGCUUAUUUAUCUAGCAGUUUCCUCAUCCUUCUUACUAACUUGACCUUCAAAGGCUUUAUGACCAUAAGGAGCCUAGAGUGCUCACUUUUAGGUUCCUUAUGAUUGUAGGGUCCUAAUGAUCCAUUGAAGUAAGAAUGUGAACUAGGAGUUGGAAAAAUGGUGUCAUCUAUGGGAAUGCAUUAAAAGCCUUGAAGCCAUGUUUAAACCCAUAGUGGCGGUUGGGCAAUAGAAGAACCUCAUGCAAUGGACUCUUGGUAGGAAAAGGUAAUCAUGACAAAUAUGAGGUGGAGAAAGGAGUGAGAGCAAACCUUUCAACAUAUGGAGGAGCUUACUAAAAUAAGCAACUAACUCACUCAAGAGAAUGUUGCCUUUAGGGUAAGGGUGUAAGAGUACCAGUGUGAUCUUAAUCAACAGCUCUCAUUGGUUUGCACCAAUAAGAUUCAAGUCAGUGAAUAAUAGUUAUCAAAGCAAUUAGACCGACAUAUAGAUUAAAUUAGGGAAGGAGGGUGGAGGGGACCUUAAUCAUACUAACUUACCAAAGGCCUCAAUGCCUUAGGGCUUCUUGCCACCAUAGCUACCAUUAGAUGUAUAACCUUGGUGAAUAAGGAGAUUAAGCCUAGGGCCCUUCAGGAGAAGGUUGCCACAUGAGGAUUUUCCCUUCCAAAUUCAAUUUCUUUCAAUGGAACUUAAGACCCCCUAGACUACUCAUGCAUUUCUAGCAUAUAAUGAUCCCAAAAAAGGGAAAUGAUAGACUUUUAUUCAAGAUCUUCCUCUCCAGCCUCCAAGGACUAACUUUCUAUUGGCUUUAUCAACUUCUGUUAUGGUUUAUUCCUGAUAUGGAAACCUUAAGGUGAUGUUUGCCUCCUAGUACAUGAACUUAACAAGAUAGAAGAAAAGCCUUGACCAACCCAAGGUGGUUAUAGCUACCAUCCAUGAGGGAUCAUUCACUAGAUUUGAGUAACUAGGUAGGGUAUCAGGAUAUUAUAGAAGCAAAUGGUGAUUCAAGUAAAAGUCCACACAACCUUCUAUGAAGUAACUACCACUUGCCUAUAUGCCAUAUGCAUCUUUAACAAAGACUUAAGAGGACUCCAAGCCCUGCACAAGAUUUAUUGGUUAUUAGUUUAAGGAUUAUUGACUAAGACAUGCAUCUAUUCUUAGUUGACCUAAGGAGUUUAGCUAACUUACUAAAUAUAUUAGCCCAUAUACAAACAAAUGAAUAUGGAUAAAGGAAAACUAGUGUCGACUCUAGGGUAAUUGGUAGGACUAGAUAAAGUCUUGCGUGGGUUAACUAGGGAAGUCACUCUAAUAGUUUUAGUUGGUUGCUGCCAUAUAAUGACACAAUUCUUUGUUAUGGAUAUCAUUUUCCCUAUAAUACCAUUAUGGGAUGACCUUGGAUAUACAACCUAAAAGGCAUACUCUUCACCUACCAUCACAUCAUUAAAUUCGUAACACUAUAAGGAAUAUGAGAAGUAUAUUAGGACUAGGUGGUAGCAUGAGUGAUACACCAUAGCCCUUAAAGCGGUUAGGAAGUGCAUCAAUCGGGACCCAUAAGAAGUUCAUAAAUCAUAAAUCUAAUAACAAUUAACAGAUGACCCUAAAAGGCAGUUAGAGAACCUAGGGAGUCAUUACUUUAAAGGCCCUAAACCCAGGAAGUUCCUCUUGGCUCAUGCAAAAAAUGAUGUCUUAAGAUGGUUACUGGAAAAGAACCCAUCUUCGCUUGGAAACAGUAGGACAUGGUGGGUAUCAACCCCCAAGUUGCAUAUCACUAACUCAACAUAAACCUAGGUGGUUAGCUCCUUAAAGACACUAGAUUGUGAAAGAAAAGGUAUCCAGUUUCUUAGAUACUAGAUUUAUAAGAGAGGUAAUUUGUCCUAGUUGGUUAGUGAAUAAAAAUCAUCAUACCUAAGAAGACGGGAAAGUGGAAGGUAUGCCUAGACUAUACCAAUUUAAAUAAGGAUUUCCUUAAGGAUAGCUAUUCCUCACCUUGAAUAGAUUAGUUAGUCGAUGCCACCUUUGAUUAUAAGUUGAUUAUGUUCAUGGAUGUGUAUUCCAAGUAGAACCAAAUAAGCAAGCAACAAAGAAAAAAUAGCCUUUAUUAUCGGAUUAGUAACAUAUUGCUAUCAAACCAUGCUCUUUGGCCCAAAAAAAUUAAGGCUACCUACAAAUGUUCGAUCAUCUAGGUCUUUUAACUAUAAAUAGAAGUCAACAUGAAAGUCCACAUUAAUAACAUGUUAGUAACAUAUAAGAAAAGGAACAAGUACUUGAUUGACUUCCUAAGAACAUUUCAAACUCUUUGAAAGUACUAAAUGAAACUAAAUCAAUGAAGUACACCUUUAAUGUAGGGUGUGGAAAGUUCCUUAAGUGCUUGGUUACAUACAAAUGAAUAGAAAUUAACCUAGACCAAAUAAAAGCAACUUUGGAGAUAUCAAUGACUAAAAUUGUUAGAGAAGUCCAAGAGCUCACUAACAAGAUUGGUGCUUGAAAUAGAUUCAUAUAUUGGAUAAUGAAUAAAUGUCAUCCUUUCUUCGACAUCAGCAAGAAUGGAAAAUGGACUAAAGGAACCAAAAAGUGCAAAUAAGCUUGCGAAUGACUAAAGCAUUACAUGAUGCUACCCCCCAUUUUGGAUAAACCUUCGGAUAAGAAGGUCUUAUAAGGUCUUAUAAGGUCUCAUUAGCAACUAUAAGUGGAAUAUUUGCUCAAAAAGAAGGAAAAGAGGAGCAACCAAUGUACUAUGUCUAAAAAGCCCUCUUAGGUGUGGAAACGUGAGAGUAUAUAUAAAUAUUGAAAAGUUGGUGCUUACCUUUUAGAUCACCACACUAAAACUUCAAUGUUAUUUCCAAGUGCAUGUUAUUAAGGUAAGGACCAAGUGAUGAAAACUCAAACUUAACACUUUAAUGGCUCUAAAGAGCCUACUUUGGUGUUUUGAGGCACUAAAAAAUUAACCCAAUGUUUUGUUUUGUUGAUAAUACCUUAGAAUAUUAUGUUUGAUGCAUUCUAUGAGCAUUCUACAGGCUUUAAGGUGUUUUUGGUGCAAUAGAACCUUGUUGGGAACUCAUGGAGACAAAAAUGCCUAAGUAGGAAGGAAACACAUAUUGCACACCUAAAAAGUGUGCAAGACUCAAUCAUGCACUUUGUUUUUAGCGUAGAGCCACAUAGUGAUGGGAAAAUCCUAGAUCUCUUUGUUUCCUAAGCUCGGAUUAGGUUAGAAACAUACAAAACUAUCCUAGGCUUUUCUAAAUCCUAUGCAUAGUAGAAAAUUUGCAUUUUUAAACUUUAUACGGAUUUAGAAUAUGCUAAUGAAAAAUGUACCUGAGAUUUGAAUGUUCUUGAAUCGAUUCUACGCAAAGAAGAUGAAGAAUGGAGUCCCAAGAACUCUUGUAAACCCCGAGCCUUUCGCCUUAUAACUUGAACCUUAAUCUUGACACACUUUUGGUAGGGAUAGAAGGAAGGGUAGAGGCUAUGAUUCUCUUUCUAGAGAUGGAAGAAGCCUUUCUAGAAAAAGUUAUGGAAACCCUAAGCCCUAAGGGGCUAUUUAUAAGGUUUUCCCACUAGGCUUAAGUGAUUUGAGCCCACUAUAGGCUUGGGUCACUUAAUCUUAACCCAAAACAGGUUCUAAUUGAUUCAUCAACCCAAUAGGGCCUACUAAUUAAUUAAUUAACCCAAUCUAGAGACCUUGUUCACUUACCACGAUGCAAUCUUGCGUAAUUACCAAAACUCCCUUAUGCACAAAAGUGAACCUAUAGCUAAUUCGACCCUCAUAACCCAUGCCAAUAAGGUAUAUGAUCUUAGAGCAAGGACCAUUGGGACCCAUAAGAGUACUAGCUCCCUCAAAAUCCAAUUUUGAAGUUGAUUCAACAUCUUACUACAAAAAAAAAUCAACUAAACUAUAAUAUCCUAUGUAAAUAACAACAAGACACCAUGUGUUAAUGUCCGUGACCUACUAUCCAUUGCGUUUAGUCUUCCCAUGAACUGGCGACCAUAGUCCAACAAGGUGAAAACUAUCAUCCUUUCAAAACUACCUCUACUAUCCUUGAGUUAUAGAUCCUCUUAUUUUGUGUUCAAUUGACAUGUAUUACCUCUUAAAGAGUCUAUGUCAACUUCCACUUAAGGAACUACUAUGGCUAUAGUUUCCAUGAACACACUUCCUUAGGAUCACCCAAAAGGACACUCUAUCUCAAUACUAAGAGAUAUCAUGGUGCUUUUAUCAAGAAUUCAUAUUGCUAAUAGCUUUCAUCAAUAGUGACCCAAUCUAUAGGAAAUAUAUGAUCAGCUUAUGAUCUCACUGGUAGGUUAAAUCUACUACUAACUUUAGAACAAACUUAAUAUCCUCUCAAGGUUGAGAGACAACACAAUGAAGUAGUUUAGUGAAGUCAUGACUACUUGAUAGCCUUAAGUCAUGACUCAUUGCAGGUCUUGUCUAAUGUGUAACCACACACACUAAUGCACACACCAUGGGAAACCCAUCCCGAUAGUUAGAACAAGUCAUCCAUCUAAUUAGGAGGUGAUGCCUUACAACCUUUAAUGGGUUGCCUAGACUCACGAAUUGGCUAUGAAUAAGUCAUCUAUUUGCAAGGAACUGUGAUUAAUUUAGAUCUUCCUUGUAACUCCUAAUGCACCUAAGUCAUGUAUAAUGCAAAAGAUGUAGGUUAGAGUGCUUACAAGGUAUAAUGCAUGGAAAUAGGAUAUAUAAAAGUGAACUAGAACUUUAUUAAACAAAUAAUAAAAUCCUAGAGUUUAUUACAUCAUGUCAUGCUUUUGAGGACUUUAUCCUAACAUAUAAUGCACCUCCCAUGUAUGUAUUGAAGACCAAACACAUAAGAGCUCUCUAAUGUAUUGGACCAAAUUUUGCAUCCUACUCAAGCAACUCAAUCUAUAAACCUCUUAAGUGCUCUAAGCCAAAAUGUUGUGCACCCCUUUGCUUAAGUCAGCAGGAUGUGUAGUAGUACACCCCCUUGAUGUCAUCUAAAUUACAAACCAUUCUUACCUCUACAAUAGCUAUGUCCUCCCAAAGUAGCAUGUUAUUUAUAAAGUCUUCAAUUCUAUUACCAAAACCUACUCGAUGUUGAUUGCAUAGAGAAAAAAGUGCAACUCCCAACCAUAAGCUAACAUAUCAAGAAUGAUGGUGGGUUGACUACACUGACCAAGGAUCUGACCCUCAAUAUAGGCAAGAGACAAGUCCAGAUGGGUUGGUGUUGGAGUAGUUGGAAUGGAGAGAGUAUUUUUUACCUAUAAAUGGAGGAUUGUAAAUAUAUAAGUAGAAGCAAAUUAUAGAAAGCGAAAUAGUAGAUAAGUUUUUCUUCUCGUAGGAAUAGGAGUAACUUAAUGUAGUUUUAGUUUUUAGUUUUCCAUUGUGAUAUUUUUAUUUCUUUAUAAACUUUCCCUAAUUUCUAGUUUAAUGGAUUUUACAAUCUUUUUUAUUAAUCUUACAUUUCAAUUUUUCAUUUUCAACUUACAAAUUUACAUUUUCAGUUACUUCCUUAAUUUUUAACAUACUUAUAUAACCUUUGACACUCUAAGAGGUGAGAGGAGCUUAGGUCUCCCAUCAAUAAGUUUAGCUCUCUACUCAUUUAUUUAUGCAUUAGUUAUAAAGAAUUUGAUAUCUAUCGGUAGUUACGAUGACCAAAAGGAGUAACCAUGGGCAGAAAAGUCUAUGUUACACUGGUUGUGGGGGUUGUAAUUUAAGUAGCCUUGGGAGCAUAUUUUGGCAUUGUUUUAAUAAUUUUUUCAACUAAGUAUAGGCUUAUUGACAUGAAAAGAACCUCAUCUAAAUCAUUUGGUUGCAAGGAUAAAAAAAAAAGAGCAGUUAGAGGGAGAUGAACCUUAUUAAGACGGUUAUUGUUCAUUUCAAGCAAGAACCUUUUGUGGUAUAGAUCCUUGGAUUAAUCCUAAACUUGAAAGCAUAAGUUCACAACCUCGUUGGUAAGUUGUAUUUGAAAAUGGUGAUCCUAAUAAAUCUCUUGUUUUUGGGUUUUCUUUUCUUUAAUUUUCUAUCUUUAAAACUUUUUGUGUGUGUGUCUUUUAUUUAUAAAAUCAUUUUUCUAAUCUUUUAGCUAACAUUCACACCCCUAAAGCUAUUACCUCAGUUGCUACCAAUUUAUAAUUCCUUGUGGAGGCAACCUAACGGCUAUACAACUAUUAGUUUUUUUUUUUUUGGUUCAAGAGUUGAGAGUUUUAAUUAAUGAUCUAGUUUAAUUCCUCUUUGUAAAACUUGACUAUUAAAUAUAUUUUUAAAUUUUGGUAAAAAAAGGAACUAGAGAAUGACAAACAAAAAAUUAGUGUUGUUGCCAGGGACUUUUCAACAUUGACUACUCUAGAGGUAUUUUUGGGUAUAUGUUUGUUGUUUUAAAAGCUUAGCAAGUAUAUUUCACCCAUUCCCUACCUAUCUUUUAGUUGGAUUUUUAUUUAUUUUUACUUAAUUUGUUUUAUUUAGAUUUUUUUUUCUUUAUUUUUUUUGCUUAGUUUUCACUUUCAAUUGUUAAAUCUAACAUUACAAGCAUGUUCUUUAUUAGGGAAAUGAUUUUAGAAAAAAGACACUAAGUAAUCAACCAAACCAUAGUUAUCAUUUUCCUCAACACAUUAGACCAUAACCACCUUAUAUCUAUUUUCCAAAUUCAAGCAUUGGUAGUACUAAUAGAAGUAUGAUGAAUGGGGAUUUUAACCCAAAUAACUAGCUAGCCAGGACCAUAAGGGUUACCUACAACCCAAGUCAAUGCUUUCUUUUAAUUGAUAUUUCCUUUUGAAUAUUUUCAAAUAAACAUUGAGCUUGUAAUGAUCCAAUUGGUAUCUUUAUCUUAUGGAAGGGAUGAUGAAAAUCCUUAUACUUAUUUAAAAUAAUUUGAAGAGCUAUGGUCUAUUUUGGUAGAACCUUCAUGAAAUCUAGAUCAUUUGAAACUCAAGGUUUUUUUUUUUUUUUCAUUAAAGAAAAAGGCUAAGCAUUAGAGGUAUAACCCAAGACUCUAUAGUAUAAGUUCUUGGGCUACUUUACAAAAUAUUUUUAAUAUUUUUUUAUUUAUUUUUUGUUUUGUAAAGAAGGAGACCUUGCAUAAUUGUUGGGAUCAGUUUAAAGCUUUGUUGCUCAACUUCCUUACCAUAGUUUUGAAAACUUAAGGAUUGCUUCUGCUUUUUAAAAGAGACCAUCUCCCUAAAUGAAACAAUUUGUUGAAAACAUGAGUGAUGGUUAAUUUAUAUAGGAGAAACCACAAGAAACACUUAAACAUUUAAAUUUGCUUGCUGAAAAAUCAAGGGUUUGGAACCCCUUAGUCCCUCGAGUACAUCUUCUGGAACUUGAAAACCAACCCCAACAACAUAUAGUCUCUCAUCCCAUCUCUCAAUUUAUCAUUUUCUCUUGGAACAAGAUUUUUGAAGAAGAUGAUCUUUGGAUGCUAUAAGAGGAGGAAGUCGCUGAAGUUGAGGAAAAGGAAACUAUGUACAUAGUAGAUUGAAAUGAAUUUGUUGAAUAAGAAUUAGUUGAAGAAGAGAAUUUCCAAUAGGUUGCAAAUAAGUUUGUAAGCUUCAUUUUAAAAAAAAAAUUUCAAAAAUAGAAAAAGAAAACUAUAAAGAGUAAGAAACAAAGAAGGAAUGAAACAAUGUAUUACAUUCUCACACUAGCUUUAUUCUUCCUCAGUUUUCCUUCUCGUUGCAAACUAAAAAUAUUGAGCUUCAAUUUUUAGAAGCUAGCCAACAAUUUGUAAAAAGCUUUCACUUUUCUUUUCUUCAUUAUUUUUAUUUAUGUUGCUCUUGCAACUUGAGUGUGUAGUAGCACCAUCAUUGUGAAGCCUGUAAUAUUACAUUCUCAGUACACUCAAUGCAUUUGGGUGACCUAUAUCAUCUCAUAAGAACUCAAGUAUAAAUUUCUCCACACUCUAUUGGUUUCAUCAUGAUUCAAAGUACGUGUAAAUUGUUAGCACUAGGAAGGCGCACAAAAGUGUUGGAAAUAUAGGAAUUCCAUACCUUUGAGGUGCAUUGCCCAACUUGUAUGAUGACUUAAAUUGUGCAUCUAUAAAGCACAACUCAAAUUGUACACCUUGAAAGCAUGACUUAAAUUCCAUACCCUAAGAGAAUAAUUUAAAUGGUACACUCAAAAGAGCGCAACUAAAAAUUACAUACCUUUGAGCAACCUUUUAUAUUGCAUAGCUUAUGUGUGCACAAUUUAAAUUACACAUCAUAAGAGUGCAAUCAUUUCCCAUGGGAUGCCAACUUAUUCUUUUGUAUUAUUAUCCAAGCGUGUUGUCCCUAGUAAAAAAUCUUUAUUCUCUUAUGCAAACUUUUUGGAAGAAAAAUAUCUUCUUAAACAAAACCAUAAUUUCCUAUAAUUUCUUAGAGACUUUUGUCUAUCCCACCAUCAAUGUAUCAAUUAUGGUGUAGGUAGGAAAUCGAGCAGCUUUCUAAGUUUUAUAUAAAGGAAGUAAUUUUAAUACUGUUUGCAUGUGCUCAAACAAGAACACACACAAUAGUGCAAUAUGAAAACUCUGAAGAAUGGUAAAAACCAAAACACUGAGCCUAAAUGAGACAAUGAAGAGAGCUAAAAAUGAACAAUCAAGCCAAUUUAUUGAAGUAAAGGUGACUAAACCAGUCACUAUAGUAGCCAUAAUACUAGAACAACCCAACAGAGCAUUUAGUAGAAUGAACAUUCAAACAAAAAAAGAAUCACGUUAAGGUUAAUAGCGUUGACCACGUCUUCAAUUAUUAUUGCUUAAUCUUUAGGAUAAUAACAUCAUAUAAUGAGCAUUUGAAGCUAACAAUGGGUGAUAUUGAACUUUGUCGGUCAAUCUCACCCUUAGUGAAGAAUUCAAUUAAGUAAUAGUCAGAGGUUGAACAGGAUAAACAAAAAUACCCCCAAGGAACUCAAAAUCUCAAGACUAUACAAUUUUUCAAGAGCCCCUGAUAAAUAUAACUUCUUUACCUAAUUUUUGCAUCAUUUUUGUUUUCUUUACCUUUUUCUUUUAACAAUCAAAUCAAGUAAAAUAAGCUUAGUUUUAAAUAUUUUAAUUCAAGCUCACAUCUGGAAUUAAUCUACUUAAAUGACUUAUUAAAAAUCAUCAUCUAAGUAAUGAAGUACCAUAGUGAACUUAGAGGAACCAAAAAGAAAUGAGUUUUCCUAAAAGUUUCUCUUUAAUCUAGUCUCACACACCAUGCACUAUAGUGUUAGGGUACUCAUACUUCUCAGGAGAAGAACUGGUGGCAACUUGAGAAAUAGAACAAACUCAUUGUAGAUAAAGUGUUAUGAUAAGAUUUGCUAUCACCAACAUCCUAUAGGAGGACGCAAUGAAGAGCAACUAAAGGAAUCCAUUUAUUACUUGAAGCUUGGUGGUAAUUCCCCAAGGGUGCUUUAUCACCUAGUGCCUUAUACCAACUGGUCUGGGAGUCAUAUAUUGAAAUCCAUUACAUAAGCAACAAGAAGGUGACAAAGUCUACAUUCUUUGAUGAAUGAACUUUUAAUUUUUCAAAAAACAAAAAGGGCGAGUGGAGGAAGGGAAGUGAAAGUAUAUUAAGGAAAACAAUUUGUCUCAAACUUAUGCCCUAGGAACUUGCUAUUCCUAAGACUAAGGGGUGUUAGUUUGAAAAAUCAAAAGAUAGAGGAAGGGAGAAACAAUAGUAAAAACUACUAAACUUAAGGAACCUUUUGUAUGCGAAGAUCUAGUCACACCUAAGUAAGGGCUGAUUUGAAAAUUUUCUUUUAAUGUAUUUAUUUUGUUUCAUUUGAGCUCUCUUACUUUUUGCGUUUUCUAACUCAAACUCAACACUUUAAUGGCUCUAAAUAUCUCACUUUAAUGUGUGAGGUACUCAGAAUUAACCUAAUGCAUUGUUUGACAAUACCUUAAACAACUAUAUUUGAUGAAUUUUGUGAGCAUUUUGUAGGCUUUAAGGUAUUUUUGGUAUAACAUAGCCUUUUUGGGAACUUGCAUGGACAAAAAUGUGUAAGUAUAGAGCAAACACAAAUACCUCACCUCUUAGGUGCACAAGACUUAAUAACAUGCCUCUUUUUUAGUGUAAAUCCAUAGUACACCUCCCAUGUACACCCUAAAGACCAAGUUGUGCACCCACUCAAACACCUUAAUUUGCACCUCUCUUAAGUGCUCUAAGCCUAGCAGUUGCAUACCUUUUCACUUGAGUCGGUAGGAUGGCCAGAGGUGCAACUACUCAAGAUCUAAAAUGUGCAAUCUUUUUUCAAUAAUAGAAUGCACUCUUAGGGGUAUUCUAACCUUACAUACCAUUCAUAUCUCCACAAGAGUUGUGUACUUAAUCAUUCUUCUAAUUAUUAGUGUACUCACAAAAGUAGCACAGUCAUGCAUGCAUCAAAGUCUUCAAUUGUAGUACCAAAACCUACGUAAUGUCGACAACACAAAAAAUGAGGUGUAGCUACCAACCCCAAGCUAAUACAUUAAGAAUCAUGAUCAAUUGACUACAUUGACAUAGGACUAAAUUUUGGUGUUGGAGUAGUUGGAACAAGGGGAAAUUUUUUUGCCCAUAAAACUAGGAUUGUAAAUAAGUAGAAAUAGAUAAUAGAGAAUUAUAUAUUUUUUCUUCCUCAUACAAAUAAGACUAACUUGAUGCAGUUUUAGUUUUCAAUUUUCAUUUGUAAUCUUUUCUUUUCUUUAUAAAAUUUCCCUUAUUUCCAAUUUAAUGAAUUUUCUAGUUUUUUCAAUUGAUCUUACUUUUCAAUUUUUUAGUUUUAGCUUAUAGAUUUAUAUUUCUAUUGAUUUCCUUAAUUUUUAACAUGCUUAGAUAACUUUUAACACUUUAAGAGGUGAGAGGAGUUGAGGUCUUCGAUAUCUUAGUUCAACUCUCUAUUGGUUUAGUUGUGCAUAGCUACAAAGAAUUUGAUCUUUGUUAGUAGUUACAAUGACUAAAAGGAGUAACCAUGGGGAUAAAAGUCUAUGUUGCAUCGGUUGUGACGAUCACAAGUCAAGCAACCUUGGGAGCAUGCUUAAGCAUUGUUUAAAUGAUUCUUUUAACUAAGCAUAAGCCUACUAACAUGAAAUAAAAAAAUAAAAAAAUAAAAACUAUCUAAAUCAUCUAGUUGCAUGGAUCCAAAAGAGGGCAAUUAGAGAGGAAACUUAUUCAGGUGGUUCUUGUUUAUUUCAAGAAGCAAUCUUUUUGGGUAAAAACCCUUAGCCUAAUGUUAAAGCCAAUAUCAUAGGUUCAGAGCCUUAGUGGUGAGUUGUACUUGAGAGUAAAAAUCCUAACAAACCUCUAAUCCUAGGGUUACUUUUUUUUUUUUUGCCUUUUAAACUCUUUCUCCCUUUCUUUCUUUCUUCUUCCUCUCUCUCUCUUAUUUAUAAAAUCAUUUUUUUGAUUUCAAAAAAUGGUGAAAUACAAAAUAGAACUAGCCUAGCAAAUUCGAUAUAUGUUAUGCCCAUGUGUUGCAUUCAAAUUGUAAUCUCUUGUUAAAUUCAUGAUAAAGUUUACUAGUAUUAUGAAAAGGUUUAGGGGAGUUAUAGAUAGUGAAAUGAUCGAUUCAAAUGACUUUGGCAUUAUGAGUGUAUGGAGCCUCCAUUGUAAAGGGCUUAGCAAUUGGGAUACACUACUAUGCUCUCCCGAUAGGGUUUGAAAUCAACCUAUCAAUGUAGUUAGAGUAUUUGACAACUAAUAAGGAAUUGGAAUACAAGGUCCUACUAGCUAGCUUACCUUUGGCAAAAGAGGUGGGGGUUUUCUGCAUACAAUUAUAUAACUAUUUGUAACUUAUUAUCGAAAAGAUCACAAGACAUGAUGAGGCUUGGAAACCUCAAUUAUGACCUUGCUAAAAUAUUAUUUAAGCCACUAUAUGUGACCUAUAGAGGUUCCACCUUAGCCUUAUCCCUAAAGAAGCUAACCAACAAGUAUAUACCCUAGCCACACAAGUACUAGCUCACCUACGGGAACCUCAAGUAUACGUUACAUAACCAAUAGUGGAAACAUCCCACUUUAUUGUUGAGGUUCAUUAUUGGAUCUUCAAUAACAUGCUUCUAAAAAAUCCCUAUCCUUUAGUACCUCCUCGAGAGGAAGCAAUUAUAAAGGGGAAAAUGAAGCACAGGGGCUCUAAAAAAAAGUUGUAAGGUCGUAUACUAUCAUGAAUUGUGCCAGCUCCUAUGAUGGACCCUACCUAUGUUGCAUAGAUGAGGAAGAUGCUCGAUAUAAUGAAAUUAUCUACAAUGACCUAUUAUUCAUUUCUUUGGGAUACCAUGGGUCAUAGUAUCAAACAAUGGAUUCCAAUUAACCACCCAAAACUUCUAAGAUUUAUAUAAGGAAAUGAGAAUUGAGAAUUGUUACCAUAUUUUGUGGUACCCUUAAGGCAUCCAACCAGCAAAGGCCAAUAAUAAGGUAAUAGUGCAUGAACUUAAGCAAAAAGUUGGAAAAAUCUAAGCGAAUGUGAGUGAAGCAACUUUUCACUAUACUUUGAUCUUACAAAACCACUCAAAGAACGUCUACCCGAGAAGCACCUUACUUUCUCACAUAUAGGAUAGAGGUGAUCAUUUUAACUAUGAUUAGAAUGCCAACCUUGUGUACCUAAAUGAGUAGCAAAGAAGUGCUUGUUGCUAGAAAACAAGAUUUUGAUCUAGUUGAAGAAAGAAAGCAAGUGACACCCAUAAAGAUGAUUAUCUACUAGAGCAAGAUAACCAAAAUCAUAAUGGAAUAAAAACAAGACCCUUGCAUGAAAAAGAUUGAGUUUUGAGAAGGACUUUCCAUGAAAGCUAAGAAGAUGAAAAAUUAUCCUCCCUGUGGAAAGGACGAUUCCUAAUUAAAAGAAUGGGGACACAAUGCAUAUUAGUGGGAUGUUCUUGAAGGAAAGUUUAUACCAUGACCAUGGAACAUGUGCCACCUAAUAAAAACCAAAAUUUAUUAUCUUUAAAUAAAGAGAAACCUUUGGAAGAAAAAUCAUCUAACCCCUAGUGGGCAUAUUUCCUUUUAACAAGCAUAUUACUCUAAUGGGUGCCUUACCUUUCAACGAGAAUCUCUUCCUUAAUGGGUAUCUUGCCUUUUAAUAGUCAUUUUAUCCUCAAUGGGAAUUUUGCCCUUAACAGUUGUCUUAUUCCCUAGUAGACAUCCUAUCUUUUAAUAAGAACCUUGUCUCUAGUAGGGUUUCUACCUUUUAAUAGGCAUCUAAACUAAAUAGGCACCUAAACCUAAUGGGCACCCUUCCUUUUAGCAUAACAAAGUAACAACAUCAAAGAUAAAAAUAGCAAAAUGUAAAGCAUAAAAAGGUCAUAAAGGCCAUCUAAUGUAAUAGAGGCACAAAAGCCAUAAACAAACCAUGACACAAUGGCAAACAAGUGUUUAAGGGUGUGCAGGCCAAACUCCAAAUAAACAACGUAUUAAUUACUCCUCCGAUCUAAUGCAGAGGACUUCAGAAUCUCCCAUAACUUGUAAUAAAAUUAGAGUUAUCUUCGAGGAUCCUUUUAAAGCAGGUUAGACACUAUUCUUGGCCUAGAUGGCUUGAUUAAAGGCUCCAAAAUUGGGUUGGUGUCUUUUGAGGCAUUUUCCUUUAACAUUUGGAUUAUCUCUUUAAGAUGGACUUCAUGCCUAGCAAUAUCCUCCCCUGAUGGAGCAAACUUGAUGUGCAAAAUUUGUGAACACUUGAACACUUAAACUACAUGGGCCUUGAAAUAAAUAAUGCAUUCGACCUUUAGGUUUUCCAUCUCCAUAAACUUUUCCAAUAAAAUUUGAAUACAAAUUUUUUUACUAUUGACAAAUGUUGUGCUCCCACUACUAACCUCCUUUAGCUUUCCCUUUAGGACCCACACUUCCUCUUGCUUCAAUCAAAGCUCUUCUAUGACCUUCCUAUAUAUAUGUUGCUCACUCAUAGUGUGGUCCUUAAGUGCUUGUGAUGUAACCCAUAAUACGAAGAGACCCACCAUCAGGAUGUUCACUCAAUCAAAUUGCACCCCUAGCUCCCUACCACUUAGUUCCUUUAAACUUGCUAGCACCAACUUAAUAUGGUUCAUGUUUCACCUCUUGAACAAGCAACCAAAUAGAGGGCAAAGACGCACACUACGACCAAAUAAAGGGUAGCCAAAAGGGGGGAAAAAGAAAAGCUACUCACAACAUUUGAGUCAAGAAAGAGGGAAAGCAUGGAAAAAAUCUCAUAGAUCAACAUACCAACCAACCAAAGAGUAGCUUAUGGAGCAUUAAAGAAAGAUAAUUAACCCACAAAGCCCCUAAGCUUCUGUCUUCUCAAAGGAAGAUUCCUGUAUGCAAAAUGGUGGAUAAGAGCCUAACUAAUAGUUUUGUCCUAUUAUUAUGAUUCCACUAUAAUCAAUUUGCUAGAAAUAGGAAGGUAGGAGAGGGUCCUUUAAAGAAUGGGGGACAUAUCAAAAUAGGAGAAAAAACAAUUAGGGGAACAUGAAAAGGAAUAGAUGAGAUCUAUAAUUGAAACCUCCAUGGAUUUAAUAGAGUUAAGUAGAUCGGAGGACUUAAAAAAUAAAAGCGAUUUUCUAGAUUCCUGAUAAGAGAGCAUGAGGGACCGAUACAUGAGAAAGGCACGUUUGGCUACCUACAACUCACCUAUACUUUUGUUUGAACAAUUUUAUGAAAUGAAAAAAGAUAUCUAACAUAGGAGGUGAGAAAGCAUGAGCCCAUAAGCAUGAUCAAACAAGGCUGUAAGUAGGUUUUGUUAGGAUGGAAUCAUAGAGUGGGUGCUCUAAGAUCCUAGAGCAACUAGAUCUAAGAACAACAGAAGCAUAUACAUUUCAAAUAUUUAGAUAUAGGUGUUAAAAGGCAUACCUUUACAUCUAGAUGUUCCUAGAUCAUACUCUAGUUAUUACAGGGAUCUAAAAAAACUUGGUGCUUCUACCGAUGACUUUGUCUUUAAUCCUUGGAACAAGUGUAAAGUGACUACACACCUUGAGAAAGAGAGUACUUAAUGUUUUCUCUAGAAGAGCAAUGAAUGAAUAGAUGGAUAGAUAGAUUGAUAACUUGACCUCAAACCCUCAUCAAUCUAACCUUAAACCCUAAGAGAGUUUAUAUAACUUCUUUUGUAAGCUAAUGUGACUUAGGCCCACCAUAGGCUAAGGUCACUUAACCUAGUCAACUAGGUACUAAUGAAUUAAAUAGUUCUAAUGAGCUUCAAUUAAUUAAGUGGCUUAAUAAAAAAAACUUAAAAUACACUACAAGAAAAUGUACUUUUCGUGACAAAAAUUUAGUGGUGAAUUCUACUUUUGUCGCUAAAAGUAACAUUUACCGAUGAAAUUUUAGAUGUUGUCAAUAAUGCCAAUUUUCUACAAACUUUUCCUAACAAAUUUGAAAUUUUUGUCAUUGAAAGAUGUGACAGGAAAAUUUGGCGUUUUGUUUUUGGCGCAAACACUUUUGUGACGAAAAUAAACUAUUUCCCUACGAAAAUAUUUAUCACUAAUUAUAAUUUUUGGUGAUGAAAAUAAUUUCCUCACUAAAAGUUACAACUUUUUAUCUAUUUUUGCUUACAAAAUGGUUUCGUCGAUAAUUAUAUUAUUUCCUAACAAAUUGAGUAAUUUUUUCAUCAAAUCAUGUUAUUAAAUUGUGAUAUUAAUAAAGAAUAUUAAUAAAUAAGUAGAUGAUUUAUACUAUGAAAUAAUAUAAUAUAUAUUUGUUGACACUUAAUAUUUAUACUAUAAUAUUUUAUUUAUAUAAAUAAUAAUAAAAAUUAAGGAUCCAUAAAAUUAAAUACUAGAAUGUAGAUUUAUUUAAAUUUAAAUGUUCUAUUAUGUAAUAAUAGUAUUGUUAUGAAAUAAAAAAAUGUAAAUUAUUUAAGCAAUUAAUAUUUAUAGUGUAACAUGUUAUUUAUAUAUAUAUAUAUAUAUAUAUAUAUAUAAAUAAUAACAAUAGAUAAUCCAAGAUAUGUAAGAUUACAUCCUAUGAUAUAAAUUUAUUUAAAUUUCAAUAUUAUUAUAUGGUGCUACACAUACAUAAAUAUUACUAAAUGAUUUUUAUUAUAUUAGGUAAAAGUUAUCCAUACAAGUCCAAUGUAGUAUUAAAUUUAUGUUAGCUAUGAAUAAGUUAUAGUCCUCUAAUUUGUUCUCAUUCAAAAUCAUACCUUAUCCACUCAAGAAGUAAAUUUCUACUAACAUUUAGUUACCUAGUUUAAAUUAAUAGAUUUUUUUUAAUUAUUACUUAGUUUUUAAAUAAUUGGUUAGAAUUAAAUUUCUCAAAUAAAUUGUCUAGUGUCUAUAAAAACAUUCUACCUACAUAAAAUUCCAAAUAUUAUUUAUGUGUAUGAAGAUAUCAUAUAUUAUUAAUAAAUAAAUAAGUAUAAGUUAAAUAUUAUAUGAUAUAAUAUAUUGCAAGUACUAUAUGCCUAGCUCUAUUUUCAUAUUUACAAAAUAAAAAAUGUACAAUAUAUAUAGCACAUGUGAAAUUCUAUAUAAAUAUAAAGUUUUUUAAAAAGUUUUCAAUCACAUCUUUAUUAAUAAUUGGUUAUUUUAUUUUUUAUUGAUCAAUUUUAUAUUUAUUUUUUUAAAUUAUUAAUUACUAAUUUAUCAAAAUUGAUUAGUUAUUAAGAAUAAAGUCUUAAAUUAUACCGCAAAUAACUUGUAAAGGAGUUUUUAUACUUGUAUGCAUUUUUAAUCAAAUAUUUAAAACAAAUAUAGUUAUAAAAAUAAUUAAAAUAUAUCAUAAAUUAUUAUAUGAUUUAUAUUUAUAGUGUUUCAUUAUGUUUGAUAUUUUUGUUUGGAAUAGAUGAGAAAGGGAAAGAAAAAAAAUGAUGUAGAAUCCUAAUUUCAUUUUGAUCAUUAUUUUAUUAAUGUCAAUAUGAGUAUUACACUUUGGCAUUCUCCUAACAUUGUCUUCCAAUUGUACUUUUAUUUUAUAUUUCAAAUUUAUCACUUUAAUCCAUAAGUCUGGAAUUGAAUUUAUUCUAGCUAUUAAUAAACUAUAGUCCUCUAAUUUGUUCUCAUUCAACAUUAGGUUUGUUUAGAGGUGACAAAAUUUGAUAUGACUUGUCAAUAUGACUUGAAUUUAACACCCUUUCAUGAUUUAGGGUUGAGUAUAAUUGAGUUCAAGUCAAAUUCAUGUCGACUUGCAUACCUUAUUUAAUAAAUAAAUAGUGUUGGCCUUAUGGGGGGGCUAACAACCACCCUAAUGGACUAUGGAGAGUAAGCUUAAAUAAUAUAAGAUCUCCAUUCUAAUCACCAAUUAGUUUUCAGAACAAAUGGGGGUCUUGUCAUAAGAUACUCCGUGGUUAAGCAUGUUGCAGCAAAAGAAAUCUUAGGAUGGGUGACCCACUAGGAAGUAUAGAGCACCUCGAUCAAUAAGUGGUAUCAGAGCCUGGUCACAUGAUUGAUGGGUGAGCUAGCACUGUGGGUGAAUGGUGAAGGCCUGGGGUGUGGCCAAGUUAAACAAAGACGGUAGGCUAUCACCGACUUUUGGGACAAAUUUGAUUUUUUUCGUGACAAAAAUUCUUAGUUUUGUCGAUGAAAUAUUUCGUUGGAAAACACUUCUAGUAACAAAAUUUUAUUUCAAGGAAAACUUUAGGCGACAAAAUAAGAUUUUUGUCAUGGAACUUUUAGUGACGGAUCUAGGGCGAUGAACAAGGCACGAAAGAAUUUUCAUUGGGGAAUGUUUUUGUAGGCAAAAUUUAGACUUUCAAUGACAAAAUAUUUUAUCGUUGAAAGUCAAUUUUCUUGUAGUGAUAAAUAGUCAUAAGUUUUUGUGCAACUUUUAUUUUUACCAAAAUGCCCUUAUGCACACAUAUGAUUAAUUAAACCCAAUUUCCUCAAAUCUUUAUGUCAAUAAAAAUUAUGAACUUGAGCAGGGAUCACUAGAACCCAUAGGAAAAUAUAAGCCCCCUGAUAAUCCAAUUCUAAAGUUGACUCAGCAUUCCACUAAAGAAAAUCAACUACAUUCCAAUGUCCUAUGAUAUUAUAUUGAGAUAAAAUUGAUUAAAUCUAAUUUAAUUAAUUUCUUAAGCUUGUGACCUACUGUCCGCUGCAGAUGGGUUCCUUAUGAGCUAAUGUCCAUAAUCUAAAGAGUUAAUAACUAUCAACCUUAGAAAAUUACCUCUAUAGGAUUACUUAUACAAUCCUUGAGUCUCACAUCCUCCUAUUUUGUGAUUAAUUGACAUACACUAGUUCAUAAAGAACAUAUCUUCAAUCCCACUUAAGCAAUUGUUGUGGCAACAAAUUUCAUAAUCACAAGUUAUUAGGAUCACCUAAUAGGAGACACCAUAUUAAUCUCAUGAGAUAUCAUAAUGCCUUUGUUGAAAAUGUUUAGUGUCACUUGCUUUAAUUAAUAGUGACCCAAUCUAUAGGGAAUUUGUGACCACCUUAGAGUCUUAUCCACAUGUUGAACCCUUUAAAGACCUUAACACUACCUUAAUAUUCUCUUAUGAUUGAAAGUCUAUGUAACAUAGUAACUUCUUAAAGUCAUAACUACUUGGUAGACAAUGUCAUGAUUCAUUGUAAGUCUUGUCCAAUUUGUAUACACACUAGUGAACUCAUCAAGGGAAACCUAACUCAAUAACCAAGAUAAGUCAUCCCUCAAAUUAGGAAAUAGUGCACUAAAACUUUAAAUGGAUUGCCUAAGUCCCCAAACUUACUCUGAGUAACUCAUUAACCUAUAAGGAACCCAUGACAUGAAUCUUUUAUGCACUCUUAACAUACCUAAGUCAUGUACAAUGCAAAUGAUGUAAGUUUGAAUGGUCUUAUAAGUAAUAAUGCAAUCAAGGAUAGAAAAUUAGAAAUUGAAAUCAUAAUAUAAAUAUAUUGAAGAAACCUCAUUUUGUUAGAUCAUAUCAUGCUUUUAAAGGCUCUAUCUUAACAGUUUUGACACGCUAGAUGAAGACAUUUUUAAGACACACUCUUCUUUCUCUAAGUAGCUAUGAAACUCGAAAAAGUUAUAGAUAAUCAAAGGAAGAUUGUUUUGUUUAAAAAUUCCUUCUAGAGUAAAAUUUGAGGAGAUAUUGUGUGGUGGAAUGAUCUCCUAACAAUAAAGUAAAAGAGGGUAGGUAAAUUGAAAGGAGAAAAAAAAAGAAGAAUCAAAGAAAGAAAGUAAUCAUGCAAUUUAGGCCUUAAAAGCCACAAGGGACUCGAAAAUGGAUAUCCUUGUGCUCUAAACCUUCCUAAUCACUAAAGACCAUUAGUAAACCCUUUUUUCCUAAGCCUUGUUGGAGUCAAGGAGUUUCAACACUAAAUCUCUAUCAUUAAAGUUUGGCAUAAAAUCAUCAUUUUUACCCUUGUGCAACUUUAUUGAACAAGGAAAGAGUACCUUUCCUAAAUUGACAUAUUGUCCCUCUAACAUGUUGAGGAUAAUAGUACAAACCAAGAAUGUGACGAUGGUAAGGUUAACUCUAAUGAGAAAAACCCUAGAAAAAUCAUAAAGCUAACAAAUAGUGGAAGAAAAGAGAAAUGAAUGUUAGCCUGGAUGUGGGCAAUCAAGACAUCAUCUCCUUUUGAGAACUCAUAAAGUUAGUCUAAGAAAAACAACCCACUCAACAUAAGAAUAGGCCCCUUAGCAUAACUCUAUCAGGUCUAAAAAUCCUUGGAGCACUUGACUAAGAAGUCCUUGUUCUUUGCCAUAAAAAUUGAAACCCAUACUUGCUCAAAAAACCCAAGAAGAGGAAAAUAGGUGUAAGAAUAAGCCUCAAAGUACUAUUUAGUGAAGAACCACAAAGAGGCAUGAAGAGGGCGAGACUUAACUACCCAUUAAUGCGUAACACUCUAAGAAUCUCAAAAUGCUCCUUGCAUAACAAAUUAUCAUAAUGAUGUAUGGCAUUUUUAAAUCUUCCUCAUCCCUUACGAACUGUUGUCAAAGAAAAAUGAGGGAAAAAUAUAGGGGUGCUUGGUAGAAGAAGGCCACGUGUUAGCAAGAGAAUAGGUAACCAAAACCCUAGGUAUGAUUAUGCUUAUAUCUGAACCCCUUGCACAAGUGCUAAAUGAUUGAUCACUCGCCAACAAGCAUGAAUGAACAAUAAAUGCUAACUUAGACCAUACUCAUGUGACCUUAACAAAGUCUAUGCCUUGAUAUACGGAAACUCCAACUACUCCCUCAAAGGCCUUGUAUAAAAGUGACCACAACCUCUAUGCCAAGUAAGUAUUCUAAAAUCCAAGAAAUUAGCCUUUUGGAUUGACACUCAUUCAUCUAUUAGUUCCCUCAUUCUUUCUACGAACGACAAAAAAAUCAUGAUAAAUCGACAAUAUGUUAACAAAAUAUCGAAUUUUGAUUGGCACUAAAGCAACACAUAGUGGAGAAAUUUCAAUCAACCAAUUUUUUUUUAAUCAUUUUUCGGGGUAUUUAUGGGUUUUUUUACCAAUUUUUUUAGUCUAGUCAACAUGUGGCUGGCUCGGUCAAACUGCCUACUCAGUCAAAAUCAAUCAAACUUCAAAAGUGAACAUGGUUUGAUGUAGGGGGGGUUUCGAACCUAGACAAAAGGUUCUACACCUACACCACAUGACCAUUGGGCAUUACCCUUUAAUCAAUAUCAUUCACUAAUAUAUAUAUAUAUAUAUAUGUAUGUACGUAUGUAUGUAUGUAUGCAUGUAUGCAUAUAUGUAUGCUGAGAAAUAAAACUGUCAUUGCAGGUAGAUGGUGGAAAUCCUUGUUAAUAUUUUCAAUCUCAUCUUCAUCCCAACUAAAGACCAAUCUUGAAAAUUGAUGUCCAUCUGCCUUUCUUAUUUCUCAUGUGCCAAACUUAUUCUUAAUUAUGCUCUUAUUCCAUGGGCUUUGUGGUGUAUCAGAGUCUUACUAUCCAUUUAUAACACAAAAUGACCUAUUAUAUAACAUAAAAUCAAAUAAAUAAUAACAUGCAAUUGUGUGCCUUAUAUUUAAUUUUUAUUCAACAAAAUUAGGGAUAUUCAUAUAUUUUGGUAGAAUUCAUUAAGCUUAUAUUUGGUUGGGAUGAAUUUUGAUAGAAAUUAAGAAAUAGAAAUAAAAUAUAUAUAUAUAUAUAUAUAUAUAUAUAUGCAAAAAUAUAAUUUUUUUCCCUACUGUUUAUUUUACUAUGAAAAAAUUAAAUGAUAUAAAAUUAAAUAUACCUAAGAAAUGCAUUUUUAUUCCCAAAUUGUUUCCAACUUUUCUGAGGAAAGUGGAGAAAAAAUUUUAGAAUUCCUCCUGCCUUUUUCUGUAAUAUUUUUCUUACAUUUUCAUGUCAUCCAAAGCCAUGAAAAUUAAUUAUUCUUUUCUCUAUAAACAAAAGCAAGGGAGAUGCAGCGAAAAACACAAAGAAAAUUAAAAGAGUCAAGCGAGUAAAGAAACUAACAGUGAUAUAUUAUGAGUUCCCAUAACUCGAAGCGAUUUCCACUUCGGAAAGCCCAAGGCCUUUUAGCCAAUACCGUCAAAGGGGUUUUAACAUCAUCAGAAUCUUUAUCAUCAUAAGAAUCUUUAGCAUCACCGAAAUUGCAUGUGGCAAGGUCAGGAAAACGUUUAACCAGAUACAGUGCUACAUCUGCAUAUUACAAAAUUGUACAUGGGAACCCGACGGUAAUUCAUAUCAAGAAAAUAGAUAGGGGAUGGUAAAUAUAGCUCACCAUGAAACCCCACCAUUAGUGCUCUGUGCAGAAGUAUGACUCCAGGCUUGUCUGCGAAAGGACUUGGAUCUACAUCAUCUCUGGUGACGCUUAAUAAAUAUAAAGUCAGCUCUUUAUGACCAUACCUAAGAGCGCUGUGAAGAGGCACUAAAUUGCCUUGGUUGCAGGUAUUGAGCAAGCUUGGGCUUUUGUUCACUAACAACUUGACUGCUUUUAUAUUGUCAGCCCUUACAGCGUUGAAAAGGGCAGUGGCGCCAUCAGAAUCCUUCAGAGCCAGUUUAUCUAUUGGCAUAAAGUCAACCAACUGCUCCACGAAACCCAUUCUGGCCUCUCCUAACUCAACUGCUAUGUGAAGCAUUGUUGAAUUAUCUAUUCCGAUCGGGGCGUCCAAUAAUUGUGGCUCACGCCCCAAUAAUUCUGAAGCACUUUCCCAGUCACCAUUGACCACAGCUUUGUACAGUUCCGAGUAAUAGAUUAUAUCUGCAUCAUAGAAUUCUGCAGUCACAAAACCAAAAGAUGUAUAGGUCAGCCUAGAUUUCCCUGAUAUGUAUAUUUCUUCAACGUUCACAACAUCCUAAUACUAAAAUUACUUUUUUAAAAAUAAAUCAUUUAAGUUAUGUUUGGUUCUUAGAAAAUUUGACAAAAAUUACAAGGAAAAGAAAGUAAAUUGAAAAAAAUAGCUAGAAGGUGAGAAAAAGUGAAAUAAAAUAUAUCUAAAAUCAAUAAAUUAAUUAUUUUUAUAUGUUACUCAUUUCACUUAUUUUAACUAUUCAAUAUAAAAAUUAAAUAAUUUAAAAUUUCAUAAAUUUAUAACUAAUUUUAAUUAUAUUUGAUUUUCUUAAAUAUUUUUUUCGAUAUAACCAAAUAUGGGAAAAUCAUUUUGCUUGAUAUAUUGCCUUUGCUAAUUAUUUUCUUGGACUUCUUUGUUUACCUCUAAUCAACAUCUUUAUAUCUUUCAAUAAUAGUUUGAACCUCCAAUAAACUACACGAAUUAAAAUUUAAUUUAGUUUCAUUUGUUUUUUUAACAGCAGGUUGUAAAACAGUUCUACUUGUAAACUAAUUAUGCCCAAAAGUUGCAUAAGGACUUGGGCAUGAACAUGGUUUUUAGAAUCUUACCGGAGCUGCUAGUUCUUUGCAAAGAUGAAGGGGAAGAGACUGAAGCAUUGUUUGGGCUGUCAUCAUUACCGAGAUGGUAAUGAAGAGGAAGCCAUUGCAGUACACUCCUCAUCAUCCUCAGCAAUGUCGAUGUUACUGUUUUUAGGACGUAGUGAAGAAGAAGAAGUCAUCACAACAAAUUCCGAACAUGAAACUUUGGUUUAUUCGACUCUUUCAUUAUAGACGGAUAAAUUUCCAAAUUUAAGACAUAGACAAAAUUAAAAAAAAAAAAAAACUUUACUUGAUAUAUGAAUACCAAAAUAAUAAUAUUGUGUGUAACAAAAAGGAGAAUGAAUCCUGGUUGAAUGAAUAGUGCAUGCAGAAUCUUCAACUGCAUUGACCCAAAAGAUCAAACCGAUAGAAAAAAAAAAUGAAUAUAUUAGAAUUCAACUAGGUCAACCACAUUCCAUCCAAGUCAAAUACCAGCCCACAAUCGCAGCAAACAAAGACUAGCUAGCCAGUGCGUUUAAUUUCAUCCAAUAAGAAUUCCCUCAAGCAAAAAGCCAGGAAACAGAAGUAGUAGGAAAGCCCUAGCCUUGCACCAAAAAAGUCUCGUCUCAUUGCUGGGAGUGCAUGCAUCCAUGCAGGAUCUGUUGGAUCAGAAAUUGGAAGAGCUAAAGUCCAGGACAUACAGAAGCGGUCGCCGGAGCCAAACCUAGUGAGCUUCCAUUUAAAGAUUAAAGCUAUGUUUGGUUCCCGAAAAUAUUAAUUUUCUACCAUGUAUCCAAGGGAAUCAAGGGCCUCAUAUGAUUCGAUGUUAUAAAGUCGGCCUCUACAAUUUAGAUUAAAAAAAUAGUUUGUUUCAAAGGAUAAUCCAUCAAAGAAGAAUGAAACAACAUUCUCAUCCUAAUCUUCUAACCUAACAUUGGUGAAACUUUUUAAACUCGUUUUCUUUGAAAUUGAUCAACUGAUCCAUGAUGGAAAACGACCUACAUGCAUGAAAGCAACCUAGGUAGUCUUCAAAGUCCAUUUUAGCCAUAAAAAUUCAAACACCCAACUUCUAAAACUAGAAGAGGUUGAACUAAAAACGAAAGAGAUCGAAACUAAUGAUUCUAUUCUUAACAAAAAUUCAUAGCCUACCCAACCUCACACGAAAACACUUCUUGAAUUGGUUGGCAUCACUUCCACAUGGAAAUGGCAUCAAAAAAUGCAUGCGUCUCAUAGUUGUAUUCUUAUUGUUGACUAGUGUCCCAUGUCACGCCCCAAGACCCACUCCAAGGGCGUGACGGUCAUUUCACACCUCAAACCCGAAGGCUUAAAGUAUAAUCUGACCCAAACAAUCAUAUUGUAAUUGGAUGUUACCAAUUACCAAAUACCUGUUCAGAGUAGCGGAACAAAAUCUAAAAUCCUAAAAAUUUAAUUUCCAAAUAACUUCCAAAUAUCAAAUGAUCCAAAUAAAAGUUGCAGAAGGACCUCAAGCGGAAAUGGACAUGAACAUGGUUUUUAGCAUCUUACCGGAGCUGCUAAUCCUUUGCAAAGAUGAAGGGGAAGAGACUGGAGCAUAUUCAUCAGCAUUCUGCGCCAUAUUGAUGCUACUACGGUUAGGAUUGUUUGGGCUGUCAUCAAUUACCGAGAUGGUAAUGAAGAGGAAGCCACUGCAGUAAACUCCUCAUCAUGCUCAGCAAUGUCGAUGUUACUGUUUUUAGGACUGUUUGCGCUGUUGUCAUUUCUAGGACGUAGUGAAGAAGAAGAAGCCAUUACAACAAAUUCCUUAUCGUUCUAUAGUAUUGCCAUGUUUAGCGAAGUUAUUCUAAUGUGUAACAGAAAACCUAAACAAAAUCUGCAGUUGACAAAGGUCAAAAUUAACUUACCUCGCAGAUGGAAGAUUAUAUUUAACUAUAUCAAGGCAGAGAAGAUACUCUCAUCCAAAGAGAAACAACAGCAGCCCUUUUUCCCACUGUCUUCAAAAGAUACAGGAACCAUUGAAGCAUAAGAGGUGCAAUGAUAUAGUCUUCCAAGUCAACUUUAUUUAGUUGAGUAUUGGGUAAGGAGUAGACAUGAUAAACAAUAGUAAACAUGUAUCAAAUAUAAAAAAUUUCUCACAAGUGAUGCAAUUAACAUUUUUUUUCUUCAAUAAUAUGUAUAAUAUAUACCAUGUGAUGUAUUAUUUAUACUUUAAGCUUUGUUUGGAUAUAUUUUUUAUUUUUUAUAUAUAAAAAAUAAAUUAUAUUUUAAAAUUUGUGUAAUAUAAAAAAGUUAUUAUUUUUUAGUAUUUGAUAUAAUACAUUUAUAUAUUUAUUAAAUUAUGACAAUAAAUGAAAAUAAAGUGGAGAGGACGAUGUAGGUUGGCAAACCUUUCUGGAGUGAAUGCAGCGCAGCAAAAGAGAAGGUACCAUUAACUUGAAUGCGAGAAGGGUGAUUGAUCUAUCAAUCUGUACGUGUCCUUCUUGAAAGGGACCAGAUUUUAUGGGGUUGCUUAAGGAUUAAUGUGGGUGCCUGUAGCAUGAAAGUGAAAAGAAUUUUGGGUCACCAAGGCGCCUCCCAUAAAAAUAUAUCUUUUAGGUCCUUUUUCCCCAGAGUGUCCUAUCAUCCUCUGAUAAAAAUAAAAUUUUAAUUAAUAAUUAAUAAUUAAAUUUUUAAUUCAAAAAUAAAAUUAUAAUUAUUAAUUAAGAUUUUGAUUAAAAAAUAAAGCUUCAAUGGAUAAUUAAAACUUUAUUUUUAUCUCAAAUUUUAAUUGAUAAAUAAAAUUUUGGGCUAAUAGUUUUUAGUAAAAAAGAUUUAUAUUCUUUCUUUGGGCAAAUUGAACAUAGACUUAGAUUUCACUUAGAAUGAUAAACAUUCAUGGAGCCAAAUGUAAAUCCGCACUCUUGGGCAUAAUAUUAUUGAGCCAUUGGUUACCAAAAAUUACUCUAAGGUAUCAUACCCACCUUUUAGGCCAAUAAAAUUAAGAAACAUGACAAGGAAAUUAAAAAAACCAAUUCUCCAGGUUUAGCAUGGUUGCCGAGGGAAUUAAUCAUGUGCACCACACAUUGCUAUGAUCGUUUGCAAUAACCAAUUAUAUAAAAUCUGUUGAAAUAUUUUUGUAAAAUGAUAAAAUUUUACAAAAAUGAUAAUUUUUUUUGUAAAAUAUAGAAAAGGAUACAAGGCUAUUAGUUCAUAAUUGCAUGAUAACCUUUUAGUAUUUCAAUCUUUGAUUUUUUUUGGAGAUUAUUUCCAUAAAUUCCACAUUCCAAAAACAAUGAUAAUCUUUACACAAUAUUAUUGUUAUUUAAAAUGGGAAAAAAAAUAUAAAAAAUAAAAAUUUCAAAAAAAAAUUAGAGAUCACAAAGAAUACAAGGAUACGAAGAAGGUGAGGAUUGUCAUAUUUUUUGUACUCUCCUCACAUUCUUCAUGCCCCAAACCAUUUGAAUAUUUUAAUCUUUUAAUUGUUCCAAACAUUAUUUACUUCAAUUGCAAGUGUAAUUAGCGUUUUUACACAAUAUUAUUUUCAAAUGAAGUAAAAAAGAAAUUCAAAAUUAAAAAUUUCAAAAAAUUUAGAGGGUACGAAGAAUGUGAAGAGCCUCACAUUUCUUGUACCCUCCUCAAAUUCUUCGUACCUAUUGUAAUUUUUAAAUUUUUUAAUCUUUCAAUUUUUUCGAACAUUAUUUGCUUCAAUUUCAAGUGUAAUAAAGAUUUUUACCCAAUAUUAUCAUCAAGUGAUGUGAAGAAAAACUUAAAAUUAAAAAAAUUUAGAGGGUACAAAAAAUAUGAGAGAGGAGGGUGUGAGGAAUGUAAAAAAGGGUAUGAGAAAUGUGAGGGUACAAGAAAUGAAAAAAAGAAAAAAAAAAAAUCUCAUACCCUCCUCACUUUCUUCGUACCCCUACAAAUUUUUUAAUAUUUUAAUCUUUCAAAAUUUUUGAACAUUAUUUGCUUCAAUUUCAAGUGUAAUUAGUCUUUUUACAAUAUAUUAUUAUCAAGUCAAUUUAAAAAAAUUAAAACAAUUUAGAGGGUACAACAAAUGUGAGGAGGGUGUGAGAAAUGUGAAGAGGGUAUGAGAAAUAUAAGGGUACAAGAAAUGAAAAAAAAAAAAAAAAAUUCAUACCCUCUUCACAUUUCUUGUACUCUCCUCACAUUCUUUGUAUUUUCACCAAUUUUUGAAUAUUUAAAUUUUUUUUCAAAUAUUAUUUGCUUCAAUUUCAACAAAAUUCUCAUACCCUCACAUUUUUCAUACCCCACCAAUUUUGUACUAUUUUAAUAUAUAAUUUUUUUUAAACAUUAUUUGUUUCAAUUUCAAGUGUAUUUAGUCUUUUUACACAAUAUUAUUGUCAAGUGAAGUGAAAAAAAAAAAACAUAAAAUUAAAAUUUUCAAAAAAAUUAAAGGGUACAAAAAAUGUGAGAAGGGUAUAAAGAAUGUGAAGAGGGUGCAUAAAAUGUGAGGGUAUAAGAAAUGAAAAAACAAAAUUUUCAUCCCAUUCUCACAUUCUUUGUACCUUCACCAACUUUUAAAUAUUUUAAUCUUUUAAUUUUAACCCAUCUAACCCUUAUAAAUCGUGUCAUUAAGGAAUAUGAGCUCAAAGUAAGGACCAUUGGGAUCCAUAGGAGUAUUGGCUCCCUUAGAAUCAAAUUCUGAAAUUGAUUCAACAUCCCACUAUAGAGAGUCAACUACACUUUAAUAUCCUAUGUAUAUUACAACAAGACACCAAGUACUUGGGUUUAUGAUCUACUAUCUAUUGCAUGCAAACUCCCUAUGAACCGGUGUCCGUAAUCUAAUAAGGUAGUGUUGUCACCUAUCAAGAUUACCCCUCAAAUCCUUUAGUUAAAAAUCACACUUAUUAUGUGAUCAAAUGACAUACUCUACCUUUAAGGGGCAUAUGUCAAAUUCCACUGAAGGAAUUACUAUGACCACUGAUUUCAUGAUCACAUGCCCUCUGGAUCACCCAAUGGGACAUAUUGUCUCAAUCUAAUGAGAUAUCAUGGUGCCUCUAUUGAGAAUACCUAUUGUCAUCAACCUCCAUCAACAGUGACCCAAUUCAUAGGGAUAUAUGACCGCUUUAGGGUUUCACUCAUAGGUUAAAGUCUUCUAUUAAUUUUGGCACAAAUUCAAUAUCCUCUAAAGUUGAGAGUCUAUGCAGUAGAGUAGCUUAGUGAAUCAUGAUAAUUUAUAGUCUUGCGUCAUGAUUCACAUAGGUCCUAUCUAGUGUGUAUCACAUACAUUAGUAUAUUCAUCAUAGGAAACUCAUCCCAACGACCAAGACCAGUCAUCCCUCCAAUUAGGAGGUAGUGCACUAUAGUCUCUACUGAAUUGCCCAAAUCCAUGAUCCAACUAUGGACAACUUAUCUACUUAGAAGGAAUCCAUGACUUAUACAUCUGUGCAACUCCUAAUGCACCCAAAUCAUGUACAAUGUAAGAAACAUGGGUUGAAUGUUCAAAUCAGUGUCAAUACACUAGAGGGAUAACAAGGGGAUAGUUAAAUCUAACUUUGUUACAUCAUGUCUUACUUAGUUAAGUUUAAUUUUAUUACAUCGUAUCUUGCUUUUAGGGGUUCAAUUCCAACAAACUCCUACUAGCCCCAAAAGUAUACUAUGUAUUGUAGAAAAAAUCUACUCUACAGUCACGUCACCUUUCUAUACUAUCCCACAGCAAGGUAUCACUUGCUUUUUAUAUGUUCCCUCUUAUAGUGGUACUUUAGUUCUUUGGACUAUGCCACCAUCCUAGAUAAUAGUAUCUUAAACAAUACAACCAAUGGAAAUACCCAUAAGCCAAAGGCUUCCUUUGUUGCCAUAGAAGUAACAAAAACCACUUAGAGUGUACACAAUCCAAGAGGUAGACAUGCAAGAGUCCUCAUCAGAAUGAAAGUCCAAUUUCUCGAUACAAGGACUCACAAACAUAUAAUCCUUCAUUCUCUAUGGAUACUAGAGUAUAUGUUUGACAUUCGCCUAAUGAAGAAAUGAACUAAUAUCUACUCAUUAUUCCUAUAACAAAGCAAAUAUCUGGUCUAGCACAUAUCAUUGUAUGCUUAAGGCUAUCCAUUGCAAAGGCAUUAGAUACCAUCUUAAUGCGAUCUCUCUCCACAUAUGUCCAAGGACAUUGAUCUUAAGAAAGAUAACUCCAAAUCCAAAGAGUAACAAACCUUUCUUAGAGUUUUACAUCAUAUACUUGACCAAAUGCUCAUUAAUGUAGAUGACAUGGCACAAUUUUUCAUAUUCCUACAAUGCUAAAGGACCUUAACCCUAUGAAUAUAUUAUGCCUUCAUCUAGAUUUUUAUCUAGAACUGAGUAAACAACUAGAUCUUGACAGAUGAAAAUAUCCUUACAUCAUAUCCAAUGAGUAGAUUAUCAUCUACCUACAAGAUCUUAGAGCAUUACCAUGCUCCCCUAUGCUUUCAUGUACACACAAGGCCCAUUGCUAUGAAAAUGUUUGGUUGCUAUAUCUCAUAAAUGAGACACAAUGCAAUAGAUAAGAGUAAUCUGAUAGAUUUGAGUAUGAUCACUAUUGAAAAGGUUUUCCACAGUUGAAACAAAGUUUCAAACUAUAACCUUUAGCUAUAGUCUUAGCCACAUAAAACUCAAGCUUUCCAUCUACUCUUGUAGACCAUCUUACACCUAUGAGUUUUAUCCCUUUAAGUGCUUCUAUAGGAACUCAAACUAUGUUAAAAUGCAAAGAUUCUAACUACCUCUUCAUAGCUCAUUACCUUAAGUGAGCAUAAACACUACUCAAUGCUUCAUCAUAAUCUAUGACAUAUAAACUUCCCAUUAUGAUAAGGCACUGUUGUACUCAAAAUCAUAGGAAUGGUAUGCCUUAAACCCUCUAGAUCCAUAGUAUCAUAUGCAAUGUGGGACUAUCUUCUAAUAUAUCUUCCAAUCAUUAUCAUUUUUUGCCUUAUUCCUUAUAAUAUAGUUUUCAUAAAACAAAAUUGACAUUUGUGUUAACAAAUAUCUUCUGAUGAUCCUAACUAUAAAGGUAAUAACCUAAAAAUCCUCUUAUACAUCCUAUAAAUUGAUAUACCUCUUAAGAAAAAGGGUAAUCACCUUUUUAAAAAAUAGUAGGUAAAAUAUACUUGAUACAUACCUUCAACCACUACAAGAAAAAAGGUCAUUGUUGACAUAUUAUUAUCUUGACUUAAGGUGAAAUGUGUCAAUGUUGCCUAUUUUAAUGAACAACUAUGACAUAUACAACUUGUUUAAACCAAUAAUGACAUAUAUAAAAUUUGUUGAAUUCUUUCAUGACUUAUAUAGUAGAAUCUUGACAAAUAAUUUAUGAGUCAAUGUAUUCAAGGUACUUAAAUAAAAGCAAUAAUGAUAAUAAUUUGUUUGAUAUGUGUAUAUCUAAUUUACUUACUAAGUAUUAUAAAUUGAAGUGACAACAAUCAAUUUUGAUUAAGGAAGUUAAUAUUUAAUAAAUUUUUUUAGUAAUGUUAAUAUCAAUUUUCAUUUUUUUUAUCAAAUUGAUUAAAUCAUUUUUUAGUCUAUAUCAAUAGCACUGAAAUAAAUUUGUGUACAUAAUUUUUUAUGCACUAAUUUUAGUGAAAUAAAAUUUGCUACAUUAUGGUUUUUUUAUAAUUGGAUAUAAAUAAAAUCAAUACUAAUAAAGUAUUUUUUUUAUUCAUUGAUGUUAAUGAUUUUUUUUUUUUUUUUUGAGUUUGUAUUAAUAUAAUAUUUUUUUCAUAAACUGUUUUUCAUUAUUUUUAAAUUAGUAAGUAACUUGUAUUUGAUUUAAAAAUAAUUAAUAAAUUUGUGUAAGCUUGAAAAUUAAGAUAUUUGGAAUUUUGAUUUAUCAAUUCUUCGGCAUAAUAUCAGGUUUCAAAAUUUUAUUUUUUAAGUUAACUCAUACAAAUUUAGACAUUAGGAAAGAAGAAAAUUAAUUAUGGAAAAUUGACAUUAUAAAAGUUAUAAAUAUAUUCCAUGAAUUGAUUUUCAUAAAGAUAUUAUUAUUAUUAGUAUUAUUAUUAUUAUUAUUAUUUGUUUAUUUACUUUAUGUUUUUAUUUUUUAUUUUAUUUUCAUUUCUUUUUUAAAAUGCUUAUUUUAUUUUAUUUUAUUUACCUAAAAAAAAGGGCUUUGAAAAAUGUAGAACAAUCCAGCUCCAUUCGGGAAAAAUCUCUCUCUAGAUUGAUGGUUCCUGUUGAGUGGUAGAAAGAGAAAUUAGGUUUUUGAUUUUGAGAAGCAAUCUUCUAGGUUUUGACCUUUAAGGCAAAAACUACUCAUCAAAACGCAUUUGUUUCCGAUUAUCUGGUCUUAGCCACAUCUUAAUUAUUCAUAAAUUUUUAGCCCCAAAAUUCAUUCUGUUCUUAUUCAAAUCAAUAUCUGAGUAAGAGUAUGUCUGUGUCAUUAACCCAUAUUUCUUGGUGGUUAUGGAGUGGAAAACACCAAGAGCCCAAAAGACUCUCCAAUGGAUCUUCUUUAAAUUCUUCUCAAGAUUCAGGUUUGUGGGAGUCGGAUGCUUUGAAAUUCCCUUUAGUUAAGGGGACUUCUUCAUUCACAUUUCAACUCUUUUUUUCUCCCAGAACCUCUUGAUUCUCUGAAUCUCAAAGUCUCCCAAUCUCCCGCACCUCGAUCCACGCAGAUCUCCGAUUUUUGCUAUUUUUUAUUUUUUUUUUCUUCGUGAGAAUUUUCAACCUAGGGUUUUGAUUUUGUAUGUUCUAGUUUUUGCUUCGAUCUCCUCGAUCUCGGUUCCGAAUUCACCCAAGGUUUGAUCGUUUGAUUGUUGGAUUGUUUGGUUCAUCUCAUGGAGGCGAUCGAUGAGCUCAUGCAGCUGUUAGGGUCUAUGUGCUAGGCCGCGGCACUGCUGGCGGAUGAAGAUGUGGAUGAGAAUUCGAGUUCCAGUUCUUCUCAUAGGGGUUCAACUUUUCUUAACGUUGUUGCUCUUGGAAAUGUCGGUGCUGGUAAAUCUGCAAUUUUGAACAAUUUGAUUGGACAUCUUGUUUUGCCUAUUGGAGAAAAUGGUGCUACUCGGGCUCUAAUAUGUAUUGAUUUACAAAAGGAUUGUUUCCUAAGCAGCAAGUCGAUCAUCUUACAAAUUGCCAACAAAUCUCAACAAGUUUCUACAAGUGCUCUUCGACAUUCUCUCCAGGACAAGCUGAGUAAGGGUGCUUCAGGCAAGAACCGAGAUGAAAUAUAUUUGAAGCUACGAACUAGUACAACACCUCCUCUGAAACUGGUUGAUUUGCCUGGAUUGGAUCAACGGAUUAUGGAUGAGACAUUGGUGAGUGACUAUGCUCAGCACAAUGAUGCCAUUUUGCUGGUUAUUGUACCUACUGCCCAGGCACCUGAAAUGGCUUCAUCUCGAGCUCUCAAAAUUGCUAAGGAAUAUGAUGGAGAUGGUACAAGAAAAAUCGAUGUAAUUAGUAAAAUAGAUCAAGCUGCAUCAUACCAGAAAAUCCUUGCUGCUGUUCAGGCUCUCUUGUUAAAUCAGGGUCCUCGAAGUACAUCUGAAAUGCCAUGGGUUGCUUUAAUUGGGCAAUCUGUUUCAAUUGCCUCUGUCUGGAUCUAUUGGGUCUGCAUGAGUUUGAUAGCGUGCCUAAAAGAAUGUCUAUUGUCAUCAAAUUCCCCAACGAUACUGUGAAAGACUUGGUGAAAGGUGUUGAUUCUUAAAUGUUUAGCAUUUUAGCAAAAGACAGUGGGAGGAAUAGUCAUGUAAGGCCGGCAACUCAGAGCCAUUUCACUGAAUAUUCAUCACAAGGCUUACUCACACUUGUAGUUGCUGCUAGGGAUAUUAUUGAUGAGGAACUUUCAGAGUGGCAGUGUAAGUAUGAAAAUGCAAGCACUUCAUUGACUGAUAGAUCCGUAAAACUUCAUCAAACAACAACUUUCAUUGAAUGCAAAUUAAAUCUUCUUGGGUCUACUAGGAUGAGAAUAAGGCUUCCACUUUGAACCUCCACUACACAUCAGUUUAUUUUUUGUAAAAAAAAAAAAAAAAAGAAUGCUGCCACUUUAAGAAUAUGGCACCACCAGAUUUUGUGAAAGGCAUCCACACAUGAAUUUGGAGGGCAACCAUACCAUGCAAAGAAGAUGAUUGCCACUUUAAGAAUAUAGGUUUAGUUAUUUUUUAUUUAUUAGUCUUUAAUCUUAUCAUUAUUAUUGGUGAAUUAACCUCACUUUUGUAGAAUCAUUGACGCUUGCUAUAUAGGUACGCUCUCUCUCUUCCCAUUUUAAAGUUUCAUGAAUAUGUAUGUCAUUAAGAACUAUAUCCUCAUUUGAUAUUGACUUUGGGUGCCUUGAUAUUCAUUUGAUUUCCUUUGAUAAAAUGCAUGUUGAGUAAUAUAAUACUUGAAAAUUGCUAUUUUGAUACUUGUUGCUUACUUUGCUAUUAACAUGUGUCUAUCCUACUAGGUAUUCAAGAAAUAUAGCAAAAAAGAAGAAGAAGAUGAAGAAUUAAUGACCACCUCUUAUGAAGAUAGUAUUGUACUUUUUAAUUUAAGUUUAUAUAUUAUCUUAAUUGAAUAUUUGUAAUUAGUUUUUUUUUGUAUAUAGAAAAUAGAGAGUAAAUAGAAAAAGAUUUAUUCCAUUGUGUUUUUAAUAUUCAAAUGUAUCUAUAACAAUUUUUUUCCCUUGAGUAAUAGUUUAUUUACAUUGUUUUAGGACUUAGUUAUUAUUAUCAUAAUUAAAUAUGUAUCAAAAUUAAUUUGGAAACAAGUUUCAUAUGGUAACAAGUUUAUUUUCCAUUAAAACUAAAAAUUAUAGUAAAAUAAUAUUAAAUUUGUCAUAGGCAACCUUGACAGAUGGCCAAUGCCCAACAUUGACAUUGCAAUAGCUAGAAACCUUCACAUAUUAUACUUAUCCUUGACAUUUGUUGUAGCAACCUUAACAGAAUAUCAAAUUAACAUUGACAUAUGAUAAAAAAAUCUUGACAUAUGUUGAAUCCAACCUUGACAAAAGUGAAAGAAACAUUGACAUAUGUCAUAGUAACAAAGAUUCGAUCAUUGGUAGAAAUAGAAACAACCUUGACAUAUGUAAAUGUCAAGGUAGAUUUAAACUUUUCUUGACACUGGAAUAGAUGACAUAUAUAAAUAGUAACAUACCUUGACAGAUAUACCCUACCUUGAUGGUGAAAAACUGUCAACGAAAGGCUUUUUUCUUGUAGUGAACCUUUUUCUUGUCUUACAUUUUGGUCUCUUAUAUUUCAAAUCCAUCAUUUUACCCAUUCAAACUUAUUAGAAAGCAAUACUUCAAUAUCAUUUGCAAACCCUUUAUAAAUUAUAAAAAGGAAUUUUUUUUUCCACAUUCUUGUUUGAACAUUGGUUUGAAUUUAGGUAAAACCAAUUUUGAAUUGAUAGCCUUGGGUAGUAUUUGAUUACUACUCAAAAAGUGCUCUUUGGUAGCUUGUAUUUAACCCUUUUAAACACUUUUGAGUAGUAGUUUUGGCCUUUUAACUCAAUUGGCAUGUUAAGGACCCUUGAAAGCAAUUUUAAUCACUUUGUGUAAGUUUUGGUGUUUUUGUUAGUAAUUUGAUCACCAAAGCAAUCCAAGAUUGAGGAGAGUUAUGAGGAAUCUUGGGCAAAUCUUGGAAGUCAUUUGCCAAGAGUAAAUCCGGAGUGCAAGGAGAAGAAGUAAAGAGAAUCUGCCAUGAAGCAUAUUCUUGAUGACAGUCGUGGCAGCCACUUUUGGAGCACUUUAUGAAGUCUAAUUAAUGCAUGCUAUAUACCAUUUCAAAGCUCAGGAAGUCAAAAAUCCAAUGCUUUAAACGGUACGUAAUUCGGAGUUGAAACGAAGAAGUUACAGCCAUUGCAAGUCAAUCACUCCAAGCUGAAGGAAGCAUUUUGCAAAAGGUUGCGAAAUCACCCUUUUGUUGCGAAGUGAUUUCGCAGCCUUUUUGUAUAGUGUGGUGUAUUUCCUCCUGAAGUUGCCCGAUAUAUGCCACAAGCUGGAAGCUGAGAACCUCAAGAUGGAAGCCAACUUCGCAGCCCUGCGAGAAUAACCUUUUGCUGCGAAGUGAUUUCGCAACCCUUUUGUGUGUCUGCGAAAUCUCGCAGACAUCAUUUUCUCUUGCGAAAUGGUCCGUAGUGCUUCCCGAUAUUUGCUACCGACAUUGGGAGAUAUUUUCCAUCAGAUUUUUGUUGUCUAAAUCCCAAAAUACUCCUUGUAAGCCACCAAUUACAAGAUUCCUUAGCUUUUAAGUUAGUAAAAAGAGAAAAUAUCUAUAUAAUAAUUAGUUUUGUAUUAUGUUCAUAUAUAUACUCUUCGAGAGCCUGUUCGAACGAGAGGAGACCCUUUGUAAAGUUUUGAAAAGCAAGUAAAGUUCAGGCCCUUUGUUUUGCCUUACCUUCUCACUUUGUAUUAUUUAUUUCUUACUAAGUUAUGCACUCUCUAAGGAAUUUUCCCCAGAGAAUGAGUAACUAAACCUCUAGUUCCUUGGAGCUAAGGUUGCCGGGGAAGGUUCCAAGUGCAAGAAUGCAAAGCUUUGUGGUUUCAGCCAUCAAUGAAGAGGAAGUGAAAUCCUUUAGUGAUUUCUAUGUUUUUAGUUAACUUAAAACACCUUAGAGUCACCUGGGCCAACACUUGGUAUAGCAAGUGAUCUCCAACCAAGGAGAUGCAUUAGUUUACCCCUUGCGAGCCUCUGGGAGGCGACUUUAAGGUAGGAUUUUUUGGAAUUGCCAACACUUGGUAAGCUUUUAGACUCCAAGGAGACAUCCAUUAGUUAUCUCUUGCGAGCUUGAGAAGGGAAGUCUAAGGUUAAAGAUCACCUUGAAUGGUUAAGGCUUAGUUAGAGGCUUGAACCAUUGCAAGUUGCAUCAAUGAGAGAAUUAAAGUUGAAAUCUAAUUAAAGGAUGUAUCUGUACAACACCGGUUAGAGAAUUGACAAUAUGUUGAAUCUCUAACGCGAGGAAAUGAACCAUUUGACCGGAGCUAUGUCUUUUGCAUGAGGAACCACCCCAGUGAACUUGACUCUCCAAGGAAUGUUUUUCUUCCUAAGUUAUUCCCAUUACUUGUUUUGUUAGUUAGUUUGAAUCUAAAUCUUUACCAAUCAAGGUUUGAGUUUUAUUUCUUAAGCUAACCUUGAAAUGAAACACUACCAAUUCACUUUGAAUUGAUAUCAUUGAUAACUUGCUAAUCCUUCCCAGUGAACGAUCCUAGAGCCACUAUACUAUAGUAGAUUUUUCUUUGCUACCCUAGUAUAUGGUGUAAUAGGUUAUAAAUUUUGUUGAUUACUCCCUCAUCCAAGGAGCACCAGCUGGACAUGAAUCAGUUGAGACACCAAUUAGGCAUGAAUCAGUAUUUCCUAAACAUCUUUAUAUUAUUAUUUAUUAUCUAACCCUUCAUGUCUUGUGGAAGCACGUUACAUGUUAUCUAUGCUAUCUAGGUACGCCCCCUAUCACCUACCUUCUAAAUUUUGUGAAUAUGCUUGUCACUAUGAACCGUGCCUAUGUUUGAUAGUGCAUGGGUGUCUUGAUAUAUUGUUUCAUUGUUCAAUCAUUUCCAAUAAAGUGCAUGUUGGAUGAUAUGCUAUUUGAACUAACUUUAAUGUCUUGUGAUAGCACUUAAGAAGCAGUCCAGACACACACCCUAAAUUGUCUUUAUGAUUUAUGAUUGAUUAUUUUGUUUAGCAUGCCAUUUUUUUUUUUAAAUCACCUUAGUUUACCUAGGUACCCUCAAUCAACCAAUUAAUUGUCCCAAUUCCCUCAACUUAGCUAGUAGAGACCUCUUUAGGGCUUAGAGGGGUGCUACCUGUUAGAGGUACCUUCCCAAUAGGUAACUUGAUCCCUGAACCUAGACUUAGGUUUUUCAAAGACACGUUUUUCCAAAAACUAUGGAGUCACUUAUUUAGGGUUUUCUUUCUUGUUUUAUUUUCCAUUUUAAAAUAAAAUAAAAUAAGUGGUAACUCCAACUUUUCCAAAAUUAUUUUUUUUCACCAAUAAAAGCAAGUCUCAUCGAUUGAGUGGGAGCACAUAUGAAAAAUACGAGUCCACACUACGGCUUUUGUAGUACUCUAGGUAUCGUCCUCAUGGACUAGCUUAUGGAAAUUGUCAAUACUACAAUAAAUGAAUUGCUUUCGUUUGAAUCCUAAAGUGAAAAAUACUAUGAGAAUAAUGUGAAACUAAGUAAAAGAAAAUAAAUUAAUAACAAAAUGGAUAUUUAUUUUAAAUUCAAUUGAUUCAAGUUUGGGGCUUUCUACAAUCCAACAUAGGGUAUAUAAAUUAGAGAAAAUAAGGGUCUUUUAAGUAAUAUGAUCUUAGGGUUUUGGGAUCCUUGGCUGCUCGUGAUCAAGUUGAGUUCUAUAACACAAAAUUGCAUCUGAAACCUAAUUUUUCUUUUUUAAAUCAGAUUCCUAAAACCAUCAAAUGAAUUAGAUUGAUUACUAGUUUAAGAUUUGGCUUUUUAACCCUUCCUACUCUUUAUAGCUUUGUUUUGGGGCAAAUAACGAUAGAAAAAACGAGGAUAACUAAGGAUCAAGAAUUACCAAGAAUCACUAGUAUCGAGUAAUAACCUACCGUAUCAUUCCCUAAACUAACUCACAAGGAUAGGAUAAAAAAUGAUAAAUUGUCACCCAACCAAUAAUUAAUCUCAUUGUUAUAAUAAUUUACCCAUUGUCCCUAUAGGUUUCCUAACCCUUAGGUUUUCAUGCUUUAAGCCCCAAGUUGGCUCUUAACCUCUCAUGGGGGUGAUGUCACAUUCAAUCAAUAAUAGGGCAAAAAUCCAUAAUUUGAAUGAAAAGAACCUAAAACAAUAUAUUUAAUAAAGAAGAAAAAGAAAACAAACCAAAGUUCUCGUCUUCUUCCACCUUCAAUGUCAAACUCUCUAGGAAAAAAAAUCCAAGAUCCCUAAAACAUAGAACUAAGAGAGUUUAGAUAAUAUCAUCAAUUACCUAUCCUAUGGCACACUCUCAUUAGCCACUUAUUACAAAAAUAAUUACCUAAAAAUGAUUAAAAAAAUAAUAAAAUGGUGAUUUCUAGUUGUGUGGGGUCCAUUUAAGUUUGAUGGAGUGCCUUAGAUGCAAUUCCCAAGGUAGAGGAGGCGAAACAUCAAAGUGGUAGUGGGUGAAUUUGAAAUUGGUGUCAUUUCAAUGUGGAUUUCGAAUUCAUAAGUUGAAUUUUGAAAUCAUUUUGAAAUGACCCUUUAGCUUUGUGCAGUUGUUUUCAAAUGGCCAUAACUUCUUCAUUUCAGCUCCCAUUUGCACAUUGUUUGAAGUAUUAGACUCUUGACCUCCCAAGCUUCGAAACAAUAUACCAUAUGUAUAAAAUGGUCUCUAGGAAAUGCUCCAAUUUUGUCCUCAAAGUCAGGGUAUAUAUUACCAUUAGAUUUUUGAGUUCUAAAUUUCCAUGCAGUUGAAUCUUGCUUCAUGCCUCAUUUUCUAUGUUUUCUUAGCUUCUUUCUUACUCCAUUAUGGUCAUUUCUCAUCUUCCAAACUCAUGAUAUCCUCAUCUUGCCUUUUCUCAUGGUCCAUGAGUCUUGACUCACUUAUUUCUUCAUUUAACCCUUUCUUGAUCUUUCAAAAUCUAAAGUGAUUCAACUUGCACCCUUUUCUUCCCUCGAACCUGAGAUAAGUCUCCAAAGUACAAAUUAAACUCACGGCUAGGGCUUUAGCAUCAAUUUAGGUAAAGUUGGGUGAUUUGAAUGUCCUUUGGUGCACAAAUCAUAUCAAAUAUGUGCCAUUAGAGCACAUAUUUUGGCUCCAAUCAUCUCCCUUAACUAAACUUUGCUAGUCCAUAGCAAAUGAAAAGAGUAAAGAAAAAAGUGAAAAAUAUGUAAUGAGAUUCAUGAAACCAUAUUGACUCAACAUAACUGAUUACUACUCAAAAAGUGCAUUUUUAUAAGCUUAAACUUAAUUGUAUUAAGCACUUUUGAGUAGUAGUUAGACAUUUUAUCCCAAUUGGCAUGUGAAGGACCUAGCAAAUGUUACUAACCAAUUUUUGGUAAGUUUUAAUGUUUUUAGUAGCUUUUUGAUCACUGAAACAACCCAAUAUUGAGAGAGAGUUUUGUGCAAGCUAUGGCAAGGCAAGUUUAUGGUCAAUCACAUGAAGAAUCUGAGCCUUAGAGCACUUCAAAACCCCUUGCCAAACUUGGAAAGGGGUUGGCAAAGCUAUUAGUAGUAAGAUGGACGGAAACAGAGCAUUUUGCAAGGCAAAAUCAUCAAAUUCGCAAGGUGUGCCAAAAUUCGCAAUGUGUGCCAAAUUUUGGCAGGGUGUGCCAAACUUUCGCAAAGUAUGCCAAAAUUUCGCAAGGUGUGCGAAAAUCACUUUAUGCGCACCGACCUUCAGGAAAAAUCUCCAGAAUUGUAAUUUUUUCUUUUUUACUCCUUUUGUAAUAGAUAAAAGACAUUAGGGUUUGUUUAGGAACUAUAAAUAGGGGUUGGAAAACCUCUCAGAGAUGAUGUUGUGUUAGAUAUUAUGUUUUAGAUAUUUCGUAAAGUCUGAGUUUUUCUCUGCCUUUCCUUCUCAUUUUCUCUUCACUUUCUCUCUAGCCAAACACCCUCUGAGGAUGAUUUCUCAGAGGAUGAAUGGCUAAGUUUCACAUUUCUUGGAGUGAUGGAAGCUAGGUAAAGGACCCAGAUGCAAAGGUGGGAGUUUUCCUUGCUAAAAAUGAAGGUAGUUGUGUAUCGUUAAUGGUUUGUAUGUCAAGUUUUAGCUUUAAUCCCUUAGAAUCACCUUGAAUGGCCAAUACUUGGUAAGCUUUUAGGAUUCUAUGGAUGCUUAUUGCUAGAUCCAUGGAUGUCCAUUAGUUAUCAAGUACGAGCCAUUGGAAGGUGGUUCAAGGUGAGGGUCUUUAGUGUUUGAAGUCAUUAAUGGGAAGCAACUACUAUUUUUCAAGAACCCUUUGGAUCAAAACUUAUUUGCUAAAUACAAAUCCGGUUUGGGAGAUGACCAUCCUUUAUGUCAUUGUCCCCAAUGCGAGGGGAAGAUCCGGAAUUUCCCACUUUGCAAUAGGAACCUGAUCCUAGUAACCAUAGCUCCAAGAGACUUUCUCUUUAUAAUAAUUUCAAUUGUUUAUGUUUGCUUAACUUAAAAUCAACCCUUCCAAUCAAUCUUAUUUUCAUUUAAAAACUAACUUCCAAAAAGAAAAUCACCAUUUCUUCUUUCAUUAAUGUUAAGUGUACAAAGAAAACCCAUCCCUGUGGACGAUCCUAGAGCCACUAUACUAUAGUAGCUUUGUAUUUGCUACUCUAGUAUAAGGUGUUGUAGGUUUUAUAAAUGUUUUGAUAGACACCCGACUGGGCAUGAAUCAAAUGGCGCCGUUGCCGGGAAUGGUGCCUAAGUACAUAAAUGUUACCUUUUAUGAGUACUUGUGAUCUUCAUCACAAGUUGGUGAUUUUUUUUUCACUAACUCGUUUUCUUUGUUUUUAUUUUAUCUUAUCUUUCAUUUACUUUUUAGCUAACUUGUAAUCUUUUCCUAGAAUUGUAGUCCUUUUUGUUUUCUUUGUUUUUGUUUCAGUACUCUCGAGUUGUGUAUGCCCUAUUGGAUAAGAGAUAUUGAGGAAAGACUUGUGAAAAUUGAAACUCCUCAAGAAAUCAAGUUGGAAGUCUGCUUGAACAUCAUGGAUAUUCCACCUGAAGAUCAGCAUAGCCAACAUGGGCAAGAGGAGAAUCUCAAUGCAUAUCGAUCCAUAAGGGACCGCAUGCAUCCACCUCGAAUGAGUGCACCUUCAUGCAUAGUGCCUCCCACUGAGCAACUAGUGAUCCGACCUCAUAUAGUGCCCCUUCUACCUACUUUCCAUGGGAUGGAAAGUGAGAACCCCUAUUCUCACAUCAAGGAGUUUGAAGACGUGUGCAAUACAUUCCAAGAAAGAGGAGCUGCAAUUGACUUGAUGAGACUCAAGCUAUUCUCUUUCACCUUAAAGGAUAAGACCAAGGUUUGGCUUAAUUCUCUAAGGCCGAGGAGUAUCAGAAUGUGGACUAAUUUACAAGCUGAGUUUCUCAAGAAGUUCUUCCCUACUCAUAGGACCAAUGGCUUAAAAAGGAAAAUUUCGAACUUCUCAGCUAAGAAGAAUGAGAAAUUCUAUGAGUGUUGGGAGAGGUACAUGGAAGCUAUCAACGCUUGUCCUCACCAUGGCUUUAAUACAUGGCUCUUAGUGAGUUAUUUCUAUGAUGGUAUGUCUUCCUCUAUGAAGCAACUCCUAGAGACCAUGUGUGGAGGAGACUUCAUGAGUAAGAAUCCAGAGGAAGCUAUGGACUUCUUGAGUUAUGUUUCUGAAGUUUCAAGAGGAUGGGAUGAACCGAAUACUAGAGAUAUGGGGAUAAUGAAGUCUCAGCCCAAUGCUAAGGGUGGAAUGUAUGUGUUGAGUGAAGACAUGGACAUGAAAGCAAAAUUUGCAACUAUGGCAAGGAGAUUGGAAGAGCUAGAACUAAAGAAAGUAUAAGAAGUAUAAGCCAUUUCUGAGGCAUGAGUGCAAGCUACGCCUUGUUCCAUAUGUCAAUCUUAUGAGCAUUUGGUGGAGGAGUGUCCAACCAUUCCAGUAGUGCGAGAAAUGUUUGGUGAUCAAGCAAAUGUGGUUGACCAAUUCAAGCCCAACAACUAUGCUCCUUAUAGAAGCACCUACAAUUUUAAUUGGAUAAACCAUCCAAAUUUCUCAUGGAAGCUAAGGCCACCUCAGUACACACCACCAGCUCAAGCACCUCAACAAGCUUCAAACCUUGAACAAGCCAUUGUGAAUCUUAGCAAGGUUGUGGGAGACUUUGUGGGGGAGCAAAAUUCAAUCAACUCUCAAUUGAAUCAGAAAAUUGAUAGAGUGAAGAGUACAUUGAAUAAAAUGAUGGAUGAGAUGCAAAAUGAUCUAUCUCAGAAGAUAGAUAAUGUUCAAUACUCCAUCUCAAGGCUCACCAACCUCAAUACUGUGCAAGAGAAAGGAAAGUUUCCUUCUCAACCUCAUCAAAAUCCCAAGGUAAUUCAUGAAGUAGAAGCUCAAGAAGGAGAAUCUUCAAAGUUGAGGGAAGUCAAAGCAGUUAUCACUCUUAGGAGUGGUAAGGAGGUUGUUCAACCCCCACCCAAGCUGAAACAUGAUGAAGGAAGUGAAUCAAAUAAGGACAUGGGUGAGAAAAAGUCAAAGAAAGGUGACCAUGAUUCAAGUGUGGAUGAAGAACCAAGGAUAGUCAUCAAGGAAGAUAUGAUGAAGAAGCACAUGUCUCCACCUUUCCCUCUAGCUUUACAUGGUAAGAAGGGAACCAAGAAUACAUCAGAAAUUUUUGAAGUGUUGAGGCAAGUGAAGGUCAACAUUCCUUUACUUGACAUGAUCAAGCAAGUUCCAACUUAUGCCAAAUUCUUGAAGGACUUGUGCACUGUAAAGAGAGGGUUAAAUGUGACCAAGAAAGCCUUCUUGACUGAACAAGUGAGUGCUAUCAUCCAAUGCAAGUCUCCAGUGAAGUAUAAAGAUCCAGGAUGCCCCACCAUUUCAGUAAAUAUUGGAGGGACAUGUGUGGAGAAAGCUCUUCUAGACUUGAGAGCAAGUGUGAAUUUGCUACCCUAUUCGGUUUACAAGCAGUUGGGACUUGGGGGGUUGAAGCCCACAUCCAUUACUCUCUCCCUAGUUGAUAGAUCAGUGAAGAUCCCAAGGGGGGUAAUUGAGGAUGUCUUGGUAUAGGUUGACAAAUUCUACUAUCCAGUAGAUUUUGUUGUUCUUGAUACUAAUCUAGUUGUCAUAGGGACAAACUAUGUGUCAAUCAUACUUGGAAGACCAUUCCUCGCUACUUCUAAUGCAAUCAUCAAUUGUAGGAAUGAAGUUAUGCAACUCAUGUUUGGCAACAUGACCUUGGAGCUAAACAUCUUCCAUUUGUGCAAGAAGCAUCUCCAUCUAGAAUAAGAGAAAGGGCCAGAGAAAGUGUGCAUGAUUGACACUUUGGUGGAGGAGCACUGUGAACAGAGCAUGGAGGAAGAUUUGAUUGAGAGUCUUGGGGAUCCUGAUGAAGGGUUACCUGAACCCUCAGAUUUGCUAACUACCAUGUCUCAUUGGAGAAAGAUGGAAAAGAUUCUACCUUUGUUCAAUGAGGAGGAGUCGCACAGAGUUGGUAAGGAGGAGCCCCCAAAACUUACUCUUAAGCUUCUACCUACUGGGUUGAAAUACGCAUACUUGGAGGAAGACAAGCAGUGCCCUAUGGUGAUUUCUUCAGCUCUCACCAUUCAUCAAGAGGAUUGUCUAAUCGAACUCCUUAGAAGAUGUAAGAAGGCCAUUGGGUGGAAAAUUUUAGACUUGAAAUGAAUCAGCCCUUUGGUGUGCACCCAUCAUAUCUAUAUGGAGGAGGAAGCAAAGUCAGUUCGCCAACCGCAGAGAAGGUUGAACCCUCACAUGCAAGAGGUGGUACGAGCUAAAGUUUUGAAGCUACUUCAAGCCGGUAUUAUAUAUCCCAUAUCAGAUAGCCUAUGGGUGAGUCCAACCCAGGUUGUCCCAAAGAAGUCUGGGAUCACGGUGGUGCAGAAUGAUAAGGGAGAAGAUGUCUCCAAAUGCCUUACUACUGGUUGAAGGGUGUGUAUCGAUUACAGGAAGUUGAAUGCGGUGACAAGAAAUGACCAUUUCCCGUUGCCUUUUAUUGACCAAGUGCUUGAAAGGGUUUUUGGGCAUCCUUUCUAUUGUUUUUUGGAUGGCUACUCUGGCUACUUUCAAAUAGAGAUUGAUUUGGAAUAUCAAGAGAAGACCACUUUCACAUGCCCCUUCGGUACAUUUGCAUAUAGGAGAAUGCAUUUCGGUUUAUGCAAUGCACCUGCAACUUUCCAAAGAUGCAUGCUAAGCAUCUUUAGUGAUAUGGUGGAGCGAAUUUUGGAAGUCUUUAUGGACGAUAUCAUCGUUUAUGGAAGUGCAUUUGAGGAUUGCUUAGUAAACUUAGAAGUUGUUCUAAACCGGUGCAUUGAAAAAGACUUGGUGCUUAACUAGGAGAAGUGUCAUUUCAUGGUACAACAAGGGAUUGUUCUUGGGCAUAUCAUCUCUAAGGAGGGUAUUGAGGUUGAUAAAGAAAAAGUUGAACUCAUUGUGAAGUUGCCAUCCCCCACCAAUGUCAAGGGAGUAAGGCAAUUCCUUGGACAUAUCGGUUUCUAUAGGAGGUUUAUCAAGGACUUUUCAAAGCUUACAAGGCCUCUUUGUGAAUUGUUGGUCAAGGAUGCUAAAUUCAUAUGGGAUGAAAGAUGCCAAAGAAGUUUUGAGCAAUUAAAGUCAUUUUUGACAACAAUACCCAUUGUGCGAGCUCUUAACUGGCAGUUACCCUUUGAGGUAAUGUGCGAUGCUAGUGAUUUUUCUAUUGAAGUUAUGAUGGGCCAAAGAGAAGAUGGAAAACCCUAUGUGAUCUAUUAUGCCAGUAAGACACUCAAUGAGGCUCAAAGAAACUACACAACCACUGAGAAGGAAUUGUUAGCAGUAGUUUUUGCCUUGGACAAAUUUCGUGCUUACUUGGAGGGGUAUUUCAUAGUGGUAUUCACCGAUCACUCUGCUUUGAAGUAUUUGUUGACUAAGCAAGACUGAUUAGGUGGAUCCUCUUGCUUCAAGAGUUCAAUCUUCAAAUCAAAGACAAGAAGGGAGUAGAAAAUGUGGUAGCUGACCACCUUUCAAGGCUUGCAAUCGCACAUAAUUCCCAUGGUUUGCCCAUUAAUGAUGACUUCCCAGAGGAAUCUCUCAUGUUAGUGGUAGUAACUUUGUGGUAUGCUCACAUUGCGAACUACCUAGUUACAGGAGAAGUUCCAAGUGAGUGGAAAGCACAAGAUAGAAAACAUUUCUUUGUAAAGAUCAAUGCCUACUAUUGGGAAGAACCAUUUCUAUUCAAGUAUUGUGCGGAUCAAAUAAUAAGGAAGUGUGUUCCUGAACAAGAGCAACAUGGGAUUCUCUCUCAUUGCCAUGAGAAUGCUUGUGGAGGUCACUUUGCUUCUCAAAAGACAGCUAUGAGGGUCUUGCAAUCGGGUUUCUAUUGGCCCUCACUUUUCAAGGAUGCCCAUGCCAUGUGCAAGGUUUGUGAUCGAUGUUAGAGGCUUGGGAAGUUGACCUGAAGGUAUAUGAUGUCUUUGAACCCCAUUCUGAUAGUUGAUCUUUUUGAUGUUUGAGGCAUUGACUUCAUGGGACCUUUUCCUAUGUCAUUUGGCUACUCCUACAUCUUGGUGGGAGUCGAUUAUGUUUCUAAGUGGGUUGAAGCAAUUCCAUGCAAACACAAUGACCAUAGGGUGGUUAUCAAGUUCUUGAAGGAGAACAUUUUCUCAAGAUUUGGAAUGCCUAAAGCCAUAAUCAGUGAUGGGGGUACUCAUUUUUGUAACAAUCCUUUUGAAACUCUUCUAGCCAAGUACGGGGUGAAGCAUAAGGUAGCUACGCCUUACCACCCUUAAACUAGCGGGCAAGUUAAGUUGGCAAACCGGGAGAUCAAGAACAUAUUGAUGAAGGUGGUGAAUGUGAACAGAAAAGAUUGGUCUAUCAAACUCCUUGAUUCACUAUGGGCUUAUAGAACUGCUUACAAGACCAUUCUUGGAAUGUCCCCUUAUCGCUUAGUCUAUGGUAAAGCGUGCCAUCUCCCUGUGGAAUUGGAAUACAAGGCUUGGUGGGCAAUCAAGAAACUCAACAUGGAUUUGAGCAAAGUCGGGUUGAAGAGAUUCUUAGACCUCAAUGAGUUGGAGGAACUGCGAAAUGAUGCUUACCUUAAUUCGAAAAUUGCAAAAGAGAGGUUGAAGAGAUGGCAUGAUCAGUUGGUGACCCGAAAUGACUUUUCAAAGGGACAAAGAGUCUUGCUCUAUGACUCUAAGCUCCAUAUCUUUCCGGGCAAGUUGAAAUCAAGGUGGUUAGGUCAUUUCACAAUCCACCAAGUGUAUUCAAAUGGAGUAGUGGAGCUACUCAACGCCAAUAGUAAUCGAACUUUCAAAGUGAAUGGCCAUCGUCUCAAGCCUUUGUGGAGCCUUUUUCUCGAGACAAGGAGGAAUUCACCCUCCUUGAUCCCCCUCAGGCUUAAAAAAUAAUAAUAAUAAUCAGAUCCUGGAUGGACUUAGUCUUUCUGAAAACUAUUAAGUUCAUCCAUUUUUGCUUUUUGUUUUUAAUUUCAUGUUUUUCUUGCAUUUGUAUUUGUUUUGAUUUCGAUUUCUUACUUGAAUUCCAUUUUAGUUUGAUUUAAUUUAGGUUUUUGAUGAUCACUUGUAGAGGAAAAGCUGAGGAAAAAUUGAAGCAAAGCAUUUCGCAUACCUCUCUGCGAAUUUUUCGCAUGGUGUGUGAAAAGUGCUCUUUGCAUUAAGUGAGCUACUGCCAUUUAGCAGAGCAUGCAAAAAUUUCGCACCCUCUACGAAAUUCUUGUGACUCUCGGUCUUCAAAUGCGAAUUUCCACAUGGUUUGCUAACUCAAAGUUCACCCUACAAAUCAACUUUGCGAAAAUUCCAUUUUGCGAAAAUCCCACUUUGCGAAAACUCCACUUUGCGAAAAUUACACUUUGCGAAAAUUCCAUUUUGCGAAGACCCCACUUUGCGAAAAUUCCACUUUGCGAACAAUCUCCACCCCUCAUUUUUCUAAAAAAAAAAAAAAAAUAGUAAAAUUUUAUUUAUUUAUUUUUUUUGCAGCAUACAUCCCAACUUCAUUUCUCACUUCUCUAGUCAUUUUUGCGCCCUUUUGCGAAACUUUUGCAUGACUAUGAAAAAUUUGCCUCGAAAGGUAUCACUUCCUCCCUUUAUUUUCACUUGCAAUUGAAACAUUGAGGACAAUGUUCGUCUUGGUUAGGGGGAGAGUUGAGGAAGUAAGUAUUGUAAAUAUUGCUAGGAUAUUUUGUUAACUUAGUUACCUUUUGUUUAUUUUUUUUUUAAAAGUUUUUACUCUACUCUCCAUGGUUGUUAAGGAAAAAUUCUCAAAAUGAAAUGAGAGAAGUUGAGUUCUUGCCUUUUUGCUUAAGUCUUAGAGUUUGUAUUAUGUAUAUUGAGGUUGAUGAAUUAUUGAAGCUCCUAUUGAAUUCAACCUUGUUUCUUCCACUUUAAUCUUACCACACACUGUGCACAUUAGGUUCCAAUUAUAAGAUGAAAAACUAUCUCACCCCUUGAACUUAGGAAAAUUUUGACUUGGUACCUUUGACCUCAUUUUAAUAGUGUUGGGACACCUUAUAGAAGGCCAAUGAGCCUUCAGAAAAAAAAAAAAAAACAAGUGCUACACAUGCCUUGAAACCCAAGCAAGGUCAUAAGGAUAUAUGGCGAAAGUCUUUGAAGCCUGGUGCCCUAAACCUUAAUUGGUUGGGAGUCGCAAACCUUAAUGCUCGUUAUAGGGGUGAAUGGGUGAAGUUGAGCAAAUAAAAGAAUUGUGAAAUAAAAGAGGUGUGUUCUUAGCCUAUUGGGUGUUGGUCAGUUUGCUAGGUUUGAGAAAGAACUAGGUUGGGGGGAGAGCAUAGUUUAGCAUACUAUAAUUGGAAACUAAUCACCUUAACACUUAGAUUCUUGUCGAAGAUUAAGUGUUGGAUCUUUGAGAGUGGAAAUUCUUUUGAUGCUUAAAUUUGUAUAGUGCCUACUCUUUGUAUUUUGUGAUUAGGUAAGUGAUUUAAUGACUCUUGUUAAAGGUUGGGUUUUAUAUCUUUGAUUUUCCAUGAGAGAUUUUUGAUCCAUAUCAUGCUGCUUUAAAAUUUUAUUUUUGAAGUGGUGAGCAUGAUUUUGUAAAUUGUUGUAUAGUCUAUUUUUCUUUUUGUCUCCUUCAUUGCUAAGGGACUAGCAAUGUGUCGGUUGGGGGGAGUGAUUACUACUCAAAAAGUGCAUUUUUAUAAUCUUAAACUUAAUUGUAUUAAGCACUUUUGAGUAGUAGUUAGACAUUUUAUCCCAAUUGGCAUGUUAAGGACCUAGCAAAUGUUAUUAACUAAUUUUUGGUAAGUUUUAGUGUUUUUGGUAGCUUUUUGAUCACUGAAAUAGGCCAAGAUUGAGGGAGAGUUUUGUGCAAGCUAUGGCAAGGCAAGUUAAAGGUCAAUCACAUGAAGAAUUUGAGCCUUGGAGCACUUCAAAACCCCUUGCCAAACUUGGAAAGGGGUUGACAAAGCUAUCAGUAGUAAGAUGGAGGGAAACAAAGCAUUUCGCAAGGCAAAAUCAUCAAAUUCGCAAGGUGUGCCAAACUUUCGCAAGGUGUGCCAAAAUUUUGCAAGGCGUGCCAAAAUUUUGCAAGGCGUGCCAAAAUCACUUUGUGCACACCGACCUUCAGGAAAAAUCUCCAGAAUUGUAAUUUUUUCCUUUUUACUCAUUUUGUAAUAGAUAAAAGACAUUAGGGUUUGUUUAGGAACUAUAAAUAGGGGUUGGAAAACCUCUCAAAGAUGAUGUUAUGUUAGAUAUUAUGUUUUAGAUAUUUUGUAAAGUCUAAGUUUUUCUCUGUCUUUCCUUCUCAUUUUCUCUUCACUUUCUCUCUAGCCAAACAUCCUCUGAGGAUGAUUUCUCAGAGGAUGAGUGGCUAAGUUUCACGUUUCUUAGAGUGAUGGAAGCUAGGUAAAGGACCCAGAUGCAAAGGUGGGAGUUUUCCUUGCUAAAAAUGAAGGUAGUUGUGUAUCGUUAAUGGUUUGUAUGUCAAGUUUUAGCUUUAAUCCCUUAGAAUCACCUUGAAUGGCCAAUACUUGGUAAGCUUUUAGGAUUCUAUGGAUGCUUAUUGCUAGAUCCAUGGAUGUCCAUUAGUUAUCAAGUACGAGCCAUUGGAAGGUGGUUCAAGGUGAGGGUCUUUAGUGUUUGAAGCUAUUAAUGGGAAGCAACUAUGAUUUUUGAAGAACCCUUUGGAUCAAAACUUAUUUGCUAAAUACAAAUCCGGUUUGGGAGAUGACCAUCCUCUAUGUUAUUAUCCCCAAUGUGAGGAGAAGAUCCAGAAUUUCCCACUUUGCAACAGGAACCUGAUCCUAGUAACCAGAGCUCCAAGAGACUUUCUCUUUAUAAUAAUUUCAAUUGUUUAUGUUUCCUUAACUUAAAAUCAACCCUUCCAAUCAAUCUUAUUUUCAUUUAAAAACUAACUUCCAAAAAGGAAAUCACCAUUUCUCCUUUCAUUAAUGUUAAGUGUAUAAAGAAAACCCAUCCCUGUGGACGAUCCUAGAGCCACUAUACUAUAGUAGCUUUGUAUUUGCUACUCUAGUAUAAGGUGUUGUAGGUUUUAUAAAUGUUUUGAUAAACACCCGACUGAGCAUGAAUCAAUAACAUGUUACACACAAAAGAUACCCAAGUAGUCAAAUUUCCUAGAAUUGAGCAAAAUGAAACAAGAUAUGCAAUUUCUUAGUUUUUUCACCUUAUCUUCGUAUACAUAAAUGUGCAUCCAUGUUUAGCAUUCCCCUUAGUGUCUCUUGAUUUUUCCUUGUUUGGUUUUUUCCACCUAAACCUCAUGUGCUUAAUUUUGGUGUCCCCUCAGUAUUUUUCUUAAGACUUUUCUUAAACUCAAACUUCAUCAUUCUUUAAUUUAAAAAAUGAGGAAAAUUUAUUUUGAUUUUUCUUUCUUAGUUUAGGAAAUCUCCUUCUAUAUGGCUUAAUAGGGAUCCAUCGACAACUCCCAAGUUUUCACCCAAGGUACUAGGUAUUGAGAACCUUUGUAGGCCACUUACCUUUUAGGUGUCAUCCUAGCUCAAGGUAGAACAAGGUUGAAUUUCCCAAAUAUUUAUUUAUUUAUUUUAAUGUUUUUUUUCAAAAUUGAGUUUAGCUUAUGUUACAAGCAAGAUAUCGAUGACUUCUAACCAGUCGUUUUCGGGCACCGGGGCUUGAAAACACAGGGCCAUUACCCCCUCAAAUAAUUGCUCAAGCUUAAAUAAAUCAUUUUCAAAUUUUUUUUUCAUCAAUUUUUUUUUUCAUUUCCUCAUUUUAUUGCUUAAGAACAACUCCUUUUAAGCUAAAGAAAUUAUUUUAAUCAAGAUACCACAAGGGUAUAUGUGCUUUAUGUGUGCUUUGAGUCUUAAAUAGAAAAUAACCAUUAAAAAAAAUUUGAAGGCAUUCAAAGAAUUUAACCUAACUAUUUUUGCACUUCAAAGUAUAUAAAGAUAAGGUAAGUGAACUAAUACUCUUGCUCUAACUGUAUUUUUUCUCAAAUUCUAAAGAAAUAAUACUACUUAAAGCAUUCUCAUGCAAAAUAAACCAUGAGUUGCCAAGGCAAAUUAAGAAUGUCAUUAAUUAACCAAAUAUAACAGGCAAACUUUUGAAAAAAAUUAGGGCUAAUAGACCUUCCCCCCUCAACCUAAAUUACACAUUGUCCCCAAUGUGUAGGAUAUUGGGUCAAAUGAAAGGAAAAAUGGAGAUGUUACCUCAAUAUCAUCAAGUGAGAAGUUUGUCAUGAGGACUUCAUAUAAACUAGUCUUGCACAAAAAAAACAAGAUUAGUGGCAAAAGUAUGCAUAGAGAAAAAUAUAAAUGGUGAGAAUCUAAAAGAGAGUAUAAGAGUAUGAGUAUGUGAUUCGUCCCUAGCAGCGGCAGUGGCAACAGCACCAUUUGAUUCGGGGUUCGAUCCCCGGCAACGGCGCCAUUUGAUUCGUGCCCACUUGGUGUCUCAGCUGAUUCAUGUCCAGCUGGUGCUCCUUGAUUGAGAGAGUAAUCAACAAAAUUUAUAACCUAUUACACCAUAUACUAGGGUAGCAAAGACAAAGCUACUAUAACAUAGUGGCUCUAGGAUCGUUCACUGGGAUGGGUUUUCACUUUGCAAAUGAUAUUAAUUCAAAAUUGAAUUGGUGCCUUUUCAUUUCAAGGUUAGCUUUAAAAGAAAACAUAAAGAUGUUUGAAUGAAAAAGGUUUAGAUUUAAACUAACAAAAAAUAGUAACUGAUUUUACUUACAAAGAAAAGUGUUUCUUGGAGUUUCAAAUCACUAGGCUCAGAUUCCUCAUACAAAAAGGGAGUUCCGGUCACUUGUUUCUUUUCCUCGCAUUAGAGAAUUAACAUAUAGUUAAUUCUCUAACCGAUGUUGUACAGAUGCUUCCCAUUAAUGGGUUCAAACACUAAAUCCCUCUCACUGAUGCAUCUUGCAAUGGCUCGUGCCUCUCACCUAGCAUUUGCCAUUCAAGGUGAUCUUUAACCUUGGAUUACCCGUCAAAAGCUCGCAAGAGAUAACUAAUGGAUGUCUCCUUGGAGUCCAAAAGCUUACCAAGUGUUGGCUAUUCUAGAAAAUCCUACCUUCAAGUCACCUCCCAAAAGCUCGCAAGAGAUAAACUAGUGAAUCUCCAUGGACGGAGAUCACUUGCCUUACCAAGUGUUGGCUCAGGUGAAUUGAAGACGUUUUAAGUUAACUAAAAAGAUAAAAACCAUUAACGGGUCACACUUUCUCUUCAUUAAAAACUAAAACAACAAAACUUCCAAACUAUGCAUGUGGAAACUUACCCGGCUUUCCUCACUCCAAGAGACAAAAAGCCUAGCCUCUCAUCCUCUGAGGAAAAAUCCUCAGAGUUUGGUUGGCUAGAAAGAAAACUAACGAGAAAACAAGAAUAUAUAUGAAAAACAGAGCAAGUGCUCUGUUCGUUGAUCUAUAUAUGAUAUAUCUAUAUUACAGUGGAUUACAUGAUUACAUGAUUCUCUGAGAACAAGCUCCCGAGAGCUAUAUAUAAAGAAAAUUACAAAACAAAAUAUCUGAGGUUAUUCACCCCUGUGUUCUUACUUAACAACUAAGGAAUCCUAUAAUUGGUGGAUUACAAGGAGAGAAUUGGGAUUUAGACAUCAAAUAUCUGAAGCAAAAUAUCAAAAAAUGUCGGUCGCAAAUAUCUGGAAGCACUCGGGAGAAUUUCGCAGGCGCACAAAAUGGCUGGUUCGACUCAUGGUAGCUUAGCUUUAAAGGCGUAUCAACAAAAUUUAUACCUUGAAUACUAUUACUAAAGUAGCCAAGCUACUAUAGCAUAGUGGUUCUAGGAUCGUUCACUGGGAAGGGUUUUCGCAAACACAAGUGAUAUUCAAAUUAGGAAAAUAGGUGAUUUUCUUAUGGAUGUUAGCUUUAAAAGAAGAUGUAAAUGUUUUAGAAAGAUUGAAACUAAUCUAAGCUAACAUUAAAGACUAAAAUGAAAGGGUGUAAAAACAAGUUUCUCAAAUAUAGGAUAACUAUGCUCUGGCUCUUAUGCAAAUUGGAAAUCUCAGGAUAGGCUCCUCGCGUUGGGGUUGCAACUAUGGUGAUGCUUGCUUCCCGAACCGGUAUGGAUUUAGCAAAUCAAGUUUUAAUCCUUUAAAAUGACAAAACAGAUGGUAGUGAAUUUCAUCAAUGGUUAUUCACCUUAGACUUCCUUUGAAUGGCUCGUAAGAGAUAACUAGUGGUCUAAAGCCAAAAGCUUACCAAAUAUUGGCAACUCAAAGUCAUUCCAAGUGAUAAACUCACCUUUCAAUGGCCAUUGAAAUUGGUUCUAACGGAUUAAUGCAAAACUUGGAAUUGAAAACCUCACCUUCCAAUAGCUCGUAGGAGAUAACUAAUGGAUAGAAAUCCAAAAGCUUAUCAAGUAUUGGCCGUUGGAAGUUGUCAAAAGGAAAUAAAAACCAAACUUUGCAUUAAUGAACCAUUAAUGAAAAACGACUACCUUACCUUCCGGGUGCGAGAAAUUUCCAUGGGAUUGCAUCCAAGCCAUCACAUAACAUCCAUACUUUGAGAAACUAAAAGUUUUAGCCAAUCAUCCUAUGAGGAAAAGCCCUCAGAGGCUGUUUGGCUACUAAGAAAAUAGAAAUGGGGAAGAACAGGAGAAGAGAGAAAAACAGAGCAAGGCUCUGUAUAUUCUAUAUAUUGAUCGAUAUAUAAUUACAACGGAUGCAAGGGAAUAUAUAUAGAGAAGUUUUUCCAAUCCUUCCUAGCUAAGAAAUCUUAUGAUUCGUGGAUUACAAGGAGAAGAAUGGAAAUUUAUACAAAAAUAUCUAAAAGAAAAGAUCUCGUGUGGAGUCGGCAGAAACAGGGGAAAAUUCGCACGUUGGAGUUCCAAUUUCGCACGUUGAUUUGAGGUGUGCGAAAUUCUCGCACAGUGGACUGAGGAAUUCGCACCUUGAAUAGUGGUGUGCGAAAUUCCCGCUCAGCUCGGUCCAGUUUUCUUGCAAUGACCAUAACUUUUUCGUUUCAACUCCGAUUUGGACACCGUUUGAAGCGUUGGACUUCUGACUUCCCGAGCUUCGAAAUGGUAUAUAGUAUGUAUAAAAUGGACUCGAGAAAGUACUCCAAAAUAUGUCCCAAAGUGGAAAUAGAACCAAUGGCCAGAAUUCUCUCUUCUCUUCCUUUUCUUUCAUCAUUUUUGCAUCUCCUCCUACAAUGAUCAUCCAAAACUCAUCUUAAAAACAUAUUAAAACUAAAUUAAAGCUAAGAAUUCAAACUAAAACAUGCAUAAAUUUAAAGAAAGCAUAGAAUUUAAAUGAAGCUGAUAGCAUGUACCCCAAAAAGAAGAUGAACUAUUUAGCUCAUCCUGACUCACACACCCACUUCAUGCUGAAUUCCCCCUGGAUCCCAAACAAAAUUGGCAUCCUUCCCAUUUGGUCCAAGGGAAUUCGUUUCUCUUCUCUUCCCUAGAGAAGUGGAUGCUUUAAAGGGUUCAGGUAACCCCUUAUCAUCUUGAACCUUAUGAUUUUCAAUGGAAGGUUGGUCCAUAGAGUUGUCAUAGCAAUCCCCCACCAAAGUGUCAAUCUUCAACACUUUCCUUGAUCUUUUUGCAUUGGUUCCUUGAAGGUUAUGGUGGGGUUGAGGAGUAAGCUUCCUUUUCCCCCUUGCUAUGUCGAGAUUGGUGAGCUUCUCAAUGGAGUCUUGAACUUUUUCUAUCCUUAGUGAUAGAUCAUUAUAAACCCCCUCCAUUCUUACAUUUAUUGAACUCUCCAUAUUAUCAAUCUUUUCAUUAAGCUGAGAGUUGAUCUUUUGUUGCUCACCUACAAAGUCCUCCAUGACUUUGCUUAUCUUCAAAAUGGCUUGCUCCAAUGAAGAUGUACUCAUUGAUGGUUGAGGUUGAGGUUGGGUUGCAAGGUUGGGAUGGUUUAUAUACUCAAAUGAAGUUGGCAUGGCUUGUGGUUGUGCUUCAGUAUGCACAUUCCUCAAUUCAAACUCUUCUAUCCUUCUAGCCAUAGAUGCUAGCUUUGCCUUCAUGCUCAUGUCUUCAUUCAAAGCAUACUUACUAGCCCAUUGGCUUUGUUGAACUUGCCUUUUCCCUAAUUCAAUCCGAUCCCUCAUGGAUAAGUAUGCAAAUUUGUCCUUCUCAUGAUCAUAAUGAGAGCUUUGAUCUUCAUGUGGAAUUUCCAUUUAUAAAAAAAAUGAUAUUCAACUAAGGCUCUUUUCUUCAACUUGUACCAGGGUUCCCUCUUGGUCUCGAAUCCAACAAGGAAUGCACAAAUUGAAAUUAAAACAAAAAUAAAAGAAAAGAGAAUAAAAAAUUUAACUCAAUAAAAACUAAACUAAAAAAAAUUAUAAGAAAACUCACCAAACUUGUGAUGAAGAUCACAAGUUACCCUUAAUGGUUGCUUCACUGUGCUUGUGGCACCUUCCCCGGCAACGGCGCCAUUUGAUUCGACUCAUGGUAGCUUAGCUUUAAAGGCGUAUCAACAAAAUUUAUACCUUGAAUACUAUUACUAAAGUAGCCAAGCUACUAUAACAUAGUGGUUCUAGGAUCGUUCACUGGGAAGGGUUUUCGUAAACACAAGUGAUAUUCAAAUUAGGAAAAUAGGUGAUUUUCUUAUGGAUGUUAGCUUUAAAAGAAGAUGUAAAUUUUUUAGAAAGAUUUAAACUAAUCUAAGCUAACAUUAAAGACUAAAAUGAAAGGGUGUAAAAACAAGUUUCUCAAAGAUAGGAUAGUUAUGCUCUGGUUCUUAUGCAAAUUGGAAAUCUUAGGAUAGGCUCCUCGCGUUGGGGUUGCAACUAUGGUGAUGCUUGCUUCCCGAACCGGUAUGGAUUUAGCAAAUCAAGUUUUAAUCCUUUAAAAUGGCAAAACAGAUGGUAGUGAAUUUCAUCAAUGGUUAUUCACCUUAGACUUCCUUUGAAUGGCUCGUAAGAGAUAACUAAUCGUCUAAAGCCAAAAGCUUACCAAAUAUUGGCAACUCAAAGUCAUUCGAGGUGAUAAACUCACCUUUCAAUGGCCAUUGAAAUUGGUUCUAACAGAUUAAUGCAAAACUUGGAAUUGAAAACCUCACCUUCCAAUAGCUCGUAGGAGAUAACUAAUGGAUAGAAAUCCAAAAGCUUAUCAACUAUUGGCCGUUGGAAGUUGUCCAAAGGAAAUAAAAACCAAACUUUGCAUUAAUGAACCAUUAAUAAAAAAUGACUAUCUUACCUUCCAGGUGCGAGAAAUUUCCAUGGGAUUGCAUCCAAGUCAUCACAUAACAUCCAUACUUUGAGAAACUAAAAGUUUUAGCCAAUCAUCCUCUGAGGAAAAGCCCUCAGAGGCUGUUUGGCUACUAAGAAAAUAGAAAUGGGGAAGAACAGGAGAAGAGAGAAAAACAGAGCAAGGCUCUGUAUAUUCUAUAUAUUGAUCGAUAUAUAAUUACAACGGAUGCAAGGGAAUAUAUAUAGAGAAGUUUUUCCAAUCCUUCCUAGCUAAGAAAUCUUAUGAUUCGUGGAUUACAAGGAGAAGAAUGGAAAUUUAUACAAAAAUAUCUAAAAGAAAAGAUCUCGUGUGGAGUUGGCAGAAACAGGGGAAAAUUCGCACGUUGGAGUUCCAAUUUCGCACGUUGAUUUGAGGUGUGCGAAAUUCUCGCACAGUGGACUGAGGAAUUCGCACCUUGAACAGUGGUGUGCGAAAUUGUCCCUCAGCUUGAUGCAGUUGUCUUCCAAAGGCCAUAUCUUUCUCAAUUCAGCUCCAAAUCAUAUAUGGUUUGAACCGUUGGAUUUUUGACUUUCUGAGCUUUGAAAUGGUAUAUAGCAUGUAGAAAAUGGACUUCGGGAAGUGCUCCAAAAGUGCCAAAGAAGACUGCAGCUGCUGUCCUCUGUUUUCCUCUUUGCUUCUUUUAGCUUCUCUUUGCUUCUCUUUGCUUUUCUCCUUUUGUUGGCUUGCUUUGGUGUAGCUAAAACCUUGCUUUAACUUGUACAAGUAGUUCCUCCAUCAUUUGGCAUGCUUGAAUUGAUUCAUAAGCUGAUAUAAACAUGUAAACUUGCCACAAAAUGGUUAAAACCAAUUACUAAGGACCUUAAUGAAUUAAUUGGGUUAAAUGAAUAUGAUUACUACACAAAGGUGCUUAAAAUCAUUAUAAUUAGGUCUAAAAAAUAGCACUUUUUGGUAGUAAUCAAUGGCUGUGAAAUUUCGCAGCCAAAGGCUAAUUUCGCAGCCCUGCGAAAUUGGCCUUCAGCUUGGAGUGAUCUGCUUCCAAUGGCUCUAAUUUCUUCAUUUCAACUCCGAUUUGCAAACCGUUUAAAGCAUUGGAUUGUUGACUUCCUGAUCUUCGAAACGACAUAUAGCAUGUAUAAAUUGGACUUCAGGAAGUGCUCCAAAAGUGGCUGAAAUGACUAUCAUCAAGAAUGCUUCAUGGCAGAUUUCUCUUUGCUUCCCCUCCUUGCAUUCCGGAUUUGCUUAUGGCAAAGGACUUCAAAGCUUUGGUUAUUCAUGUUUUUGAGCUUUCCAUUGCUUUGCCAUGGAUUCCAAAGAACUCUCCUCAAUCUUGGAUUGCUUUGGUGAUCAAAAAGCUAUCAAAACACCAAAACUUAACACAAUUUGAUUAGAAUUGAUUGCAAGGGUCCUUAACAUGCCAAUUGAGUUAAAAGGUAAUAACUACUACUGAAAAGUGUUUAAAAGAGUUAAUUACAAGCUAUCAAAUAGCACUUUUUGAGUAGUAAUCAGUAUGCGCCAAAAAUACCAUAGUAUAUACAACCAAAUUGAAUAAGGUAUAUAUAGAAAUGAACAUCAAGCACCAAUGAUAGGAUGGACAACUCCAUCUAUCUCCUCUAACAUAGGGGUGGCUACCUGGUCAAUAUCCUUCGAUAUAGGUGUAGUAGCCUGAUUAGUGAUAUCCAUGAUAGGUGUAACAGCCUCGCCAGCAGCUUGUACCAUAGGGGGGUCAUCCCUAAUAAUGAUGUCCACACUAGUGUUAAUAGCAUAAAUGAAGAUCUCACCAUCGACCUGUCCUGCAGAAUUUGGAAUAUCAAUAGUCGAGUUAAAAAUCUUAGCUGCGGCAUCACCUGAUGUUUGUAAGAUAGGCAUGGUCUCAUGGGCUACUGUCGGUGCUCUAGUGUCAAAGCCAAAACCAAUCACCUCUGUGUUGCCAUCAACCUCUAAGUUGGUAUCAGUUAGUGUAACCAAAUCUCCCCUUUAUCUAGAUGGAAUAACCAAAGAAGUGAGCUAUUGUAUAGAAAAAGUGAGGUCAUCCAUCUGAGUCUCCAUCUUACUUAGGUAAGCGUCAAUGUGGAAGUCCAUGGACACAAAUAACUUCUGAAGUGUGUCUAGACGAGCCAUGAUUGAUAAAGUACUCGGGGUAGCAUCAACAAUCUAAGGCUAUGAAGGUUUAGGAAGAUCGGAGAUUGGUACUGUUGGUGUAGAAAUAGGAAUAGCAAGCUCUGGGGCACAUGAAAGAGAUGGUGGAAGAGGAAUAGGAAGCACUAGUAAGCUCAUGUCAAAAGUAAGAAUGAGUGGGAGCGGGCUCUUUGUAGUAGAUGGAAGUCGAACAAAAUCCAAAGCUCUCUUUCACCUAGUGCGAUGGGUAGUCAAUUGUGACCCUGAAUGAAUCAUUCGAGCACACUGAUCGAUAACAGAAGUGUGAGAAGCCAUGUGACGACCAAACUCAAGUAACUGUUGUCCACGGUGGAGCAAGUAGUAUGAGAGCAAUCAAGGCAAAGGAAUGAGAUAGCUUUGAGCUAAAAAUAACUGUUUAUCCUUAACCUUCUAAAAAAAAAGAAAUGAUGGUAUCCAACUGAGUUGAGGUGGACUCCACCCCUCGCCUGUGUGCAUAUGAUAUAACCCCCAUAAGACUAAAUCAGAGCGCUCUAUAGAGUGUCCACAACAAGUACCCUGAGGUGCUAGUAUAUGUGCAAUCCUCGAAAAAGCUAGUCGUGACUGAGGUGUAAAUCAGGCUUCAAGAGGAGUGGAUGAUGGUAAACCAAAGGCUGAAACAAUGCUCUCAGUGGAAAUAAUAUCAACUCGUCCUCUAAUAGAAAAAUGGAGCUCUCGGUACCCCCCUCUCUAAUCCUCGAGAGUAAAUAAUAACUCUCGUACACUAGCGACAUAAAAAUAUGGGGGAUGAUCCAUCAAUGCGAGAAAAUAAUAUCGGUCAAGGAGAUGCAUGGACAAUGCAGUGGGCUCAUAAGUACUAAAUGCCUUUAUGUCAUAAAAGAACUCUUGACCAAACUCCCGUUGAGAUAGGUCCACCCUAGGGGCAUCAUCACAAACUCUUAGAGAUGGAGGACGUGUUGGGCUCAGAGUAGGGGGAGCUGCCCAUGGAUGUGGAGGAGUGGUAGUAGGCCUGGUGGUCUUAGGAGUGGUUGAGCGAUCAAAAUGGGCCUUCAUCCUAGUCUUUACAUGCAUGGCUUCAGUCCUCUUAGUGGUUGGGUGGUCAAAACGAGACUUCGUCCUAACCUCUACAUGCAUGGCUUUAGUCCUCUUAGUGGUUGGGUGAUCACAACGAGCCUUCAUCUUGGCCUCUACAUGCUUGGCUUGACUAGUGACAUGCCUCUCGGUAAGCUCACUAAUCAGUACACCACUUUGACUUUGGACAAGAGGUCGGGCAUGCUUUUGCCUUGGGAAUGCUUAGUCUCAUUGUCACUUUGAAUAACAACUUUCCUUUUAUCUCGAGCCAUCUAAAAUAAAUGUCGAAAAAUAAACUAAACUUAAAAAGGGAAAUAAAUAAAUAAAAAUAAAAGCAAAAACUCAUAAGGGUUAAGAAAACAAUCCCAAAAAAAUUGAAUGCUCAUGAAAUUUAUGGAUUCAUGUGAAACGGUGGUAGACCAUUCCUAAAAUGCGGGAAAACAUUCAAGGUGUCCAACACUGAUGAAAAUAUGAGUCUUUGAAGCCUUAGAUAUAAUCCAAACAAUACUUAAGCUCAAAUAUCAUGUGACAAGGAAAUCAAAGUGAUUGGUUAGCUUAGGAGAAUGUGUAGAACAAAUAGAAAAAUCUACUAGAGAGUUUAAAAUGUUCUAGAGGAUAUAAAACAUAAAUUAGGCAACAAUUAUGCAAAACUCAUGGAAAAAUAAGAACCUUGCUCUCAAAGUAUUCUAAGAUGAUAAAAAAUCCCUAAGAAUCAUGUAGAAAAAAUUUCAAAAAUUUUCUCCAAGAAUAAACCAAAAAUUAUAACACCUUGAAUUUCCAAGCAAAACAAAAGAACUAUGUAACCAAAAUCAAUCUUGUUGUGUUGCACUCGGGUUUUUGGGGGUCAAGUUCCCCGUUGAGCUCGUGGGGGUCGAGGGGCAGUGCCCUAUAGAUUUUUUUUUUCAUUAUAUUUAUUGUUUUUUAUUUAUCCAUCCAACCAGAACAAUAGAAACCCCAAACAAUGUUAGUGAGAAUUGGGUAACACCGCAUUUUAUAUGAAGCAACAUCGCACAAUGAAACCAUAAAGAUCAAGGAAAAUCCAUGAAAAAUAAAUAAGAAAUGAGUAUGAGUGUAAUACGUACAUGGAAUGCAACAAACCCACAAUGAAAACCUAAAAUCGCCCUCAAUGGAAGCUAGGACGAUGAACAAGGGAAGUGGAAAUGACCAUUUGUAAAGGAGUUUGGGUGAUUUCAGAGUGAGCUCAAAAUAGAAAUUAAGUAUUUUGAAUUGGAUUUUUGGUUAAGAAAAGUCAUUUCGAAAUUUAACUAUUGAAUUUGAAAAUAACCUUAUUUUGAAUUCAUUAAUUAAUGGUAAAAAAAUGCACAUUUUAAAAUGAAACCAUUGGAUUCGAAAACUACCUUAUUUCGAAAUGGUUCACUAUAUACAAAAAAUUUUAAAAAACCUCAUUUCAAAAUGAAAAAAAAAAAAUUCAUUUCUAAAUUGGGCAAAUUUCGAAUUCACCUUCUGAAGUUAAAAAAUCUCAAUUCUAAAGUAAAAGAUUCAAUUUUGAAAAGCCCACCAUUUUGAAUUUGCUAAAUGUAGCCUCAAUACAUUGUUAAAACCCCAUUUCAAAAUUCCACUAAUGAUUUUGAAAAUAGCUCCAUUUCGAAAUGGCUCACUGUUGAUUCCAACUUCUAUUUCGAAAUAGCAAUUUUUUUAUAUUUCAAAUUUGCCUUUAUUUCGAAAUAACCCACGGUGAGUGUUGAAGUCCAUCUUAAAGCAUGAAAAUUGCUCAUUUCGAAAUUCAAAACUCAUUGUAUUUUGAACUCAUUGUCUGUGAGUUCAAAACACCUAUUUUGACAUUUACUAGUGAUUUCAAAAUUAACCUCAAUUCGAAUUCACUUUCUGUAGAUUUAAAAUUGCAAUUCUAAGACAAAAAUUUUGAUUUCAAAAGGAUCAUAAUAUUUAAAUCACCCAUUACUAGUCUCCAAAAGUGUCAUCUCUAUUUGAGAUUUGAAAUUCAAAAACAAAGGAAUUUUGAAUUCAGCCACUAUACCUUUAACUCUUUAUCAUAAAAAUUUAGGAUUUCCCUCCCAAGGGCUACUCAGUUUUGUAUUUCAUCAUUUGUUUUCAAAGUUCACCAAUGAUUCUCACAAGUAAAUUUUUGGGAGACCUAUUGAUUCGUGCCCAGUCGGUGUAUCAGCUGAUUCAUGUCCAGCUUCUGCUUCUUGAUUGAGGGAGUAAUCAACAAAAUUUAUAACCUAUUACACCAUGUACUAGGGUAGCAAAGACAAAGCUACUAUAGCAUAGUGGCUCUAGGAUCGUUCACUGGGAUGGGUUUUCACUUCACAAAUGAUAUUAAUUCAAAGCUAAAUUGGUGCCUUUUCAUUUCAAGGUUAGCUUUAAAAGAAAACAUAAUUUUUGGUAGAAAAGGUUGGUUUUAAGUUAACCAAAAAUAAUAACUAAUUUUACUUACAAAGAAAAGUGUUUCUUGGAGUUUAGACCACAGGGCUCAUAUUCCUUGUACAAAAAGGAGAGUUCCGGUCACUUGUUUAUUUUCCUCGCAUUGGGGAUUUAACAUAUAGUUAUUUCCCGAACCGGUGUGGUACAGAUGCUUCACUUUAAUGGGUUCAAACACUAAAUCCCUCUCACUGAUGCACCUUGCAAUGGCUCAUACCUCUCACCUAGCACUUGCCAUUCAAGGUGAUCUUUAACCUUGGACUUCUCGUCAAAAGCUCGCAAGAGAUAACUAAUGGAUAUCUCCGUGGAGUCCAAAAGCUUAUCAAGUGUUGUCUAUUCUAGAAAAUCCUACCUUCAAACCACCUCCCAAAGGCUCGCAAGAGAUAAACUAGUGCAUCUCAAUGGAUAGAGAUCACUUGCCUUAUCGAGUGUUGGCCCAGGUGAUUUAAUGGCGUUUUAAGUUAACUAAAAAGAUAAAAACCAUUAAUGGGUCACACUUUCUCUUCAUUAAAAACUAAAACAACAAAACUUCCAAUUUAUGCAUGAGGAAAUUUACCCGGCUUUCUUCACUCCAAGAGACAAAGAGCCUAGCCUCUCAUCCUCCGAGGAAAAAUCCUUAGAGUUUGAUUGGCUAGAAAGAAAAUAAUGAGAAAACAAAAGCAAAGCAAGUGCUCUGUAUUUUACUUCCUUCCCAAAACUGUAAAAAAGGAUUCUCCCCCUGAGAACAGGCUCCCAAGAGAUAUAUAUAAGGAAAAUUACAAAAUAUCUAUAUGAGGUUAUUCACCCUUUUUCCAAACUUAAUAACUAAGGAAUCCUAUAAUUGGUGGGUUACAAGGAGAUUUUGGGGAUUUAGACAACAAAUAUCUAAAGCAAAAUAUCUCAAAAUAUCCCAAAAUAUCGAUGGCAAAUAUCAGGAAGCUUCAGGAGAACACCGCGGCCCUGUGCAAAAUGGCUGCUCUCCCAUCCGGGUAGACGCUAUCAGAUGAUCCGGAUACGUCCGUCCGGAGAAGUUGAAACGCCCUCUUCUCCCAUCCGGCGUCAUGCGCCGGAUGCAAAAUAUCCGGAUGUAAUGGCGGCGACAGUAGAUUUCUGGAUGUGAUACAUCCGGGUGGAAAGAGGCGGCAGCCGGAUGCAAUGGCGGCAGCCGCUCCAUCUGGAUGAAACGAUAGCAUCUUAUCCGGAUAUGUUGUCCGGAUGCCCUCUGAUGGUGUAUCCUGACGCCCUAUCCGGGUAUACUCCUUGCAUGGAUUCCAAGUAACUCUCCUCAAUCUCAGAUUGCUUUGGUGAUCAACAAGCUAUCAAAACACAAAACUUAACACAUUUUUUAUUAGAAUUGAUUGCAAGGGUCCUUAACAUGUUAAUUCGGUUAAAAGGUAAUAACUACUACUCAAAAGUGUUUAAAAGAGUUAAUUCCAAGCUAUGAAAUAUCACUUUUUGAGUAGUAAUCACCUAUGAUCUUAAAUAUAGAUCAAUGUACCUAUAGGAGCUUUGUCACCUUGAACACAUGUGAGGCUUACCAUUUCACUCCCUUCAAGUUUGCAUUCACCUAUAUCACUCGGCUGUUUGCAAGCUAAGUUGCUACAACUUAUAAACUCAUUAGUAAGUUAAAAAUUAACUAAAAAAUGCUAACCACAUUGCUAAUGACUAAUUGAAAAUGCAAAACUAAAAAAAGAAAAAUUAAAUUAAAUAAAAAAAUAAAACAUAAAUUAAAUAAAUAAAAGUUUUACCUAAAUUUAAUUUUUACCUACUAGAUUUUCAGAAAAUACUUCAACCCUUUUAAACAUUCCCAUAAAGAAAAUGGAGAUUCUCCUCUUGUGUCUCAAAUCUUUCAAUGAAAUGCUUUAAGCGUUGACCAUUAACUUUGAAUUCACUACCAAUCCUCAGAUUUUGAAUGGUCACGGUGCCAUAAGGGAAGACUUCCUUUACCACAUAAGGGCCAUUCCACCUCGACCUAAGCUUUCUUGGAAAAAUGUGAAGCUUGGAGUCGUAUAACAACACAUUUUCACCUUGCUUGAACUCUCUUCGUAAAAUAAGUUUGUCAUGGUAGAAUAUGUGUUUUUCCCUUGUAUUAUGUAAGCAUUCAUAACUUUAAUUUUGAUAUGCCUCAAGUUCCUUCAUAUCAUAUUUCCUUUUAGCUCUAGUUUGAUCCAAAUGAAAGUUCAUCUUCUUUGUAGCCCAAUAUGCACGAUGUUUGAGCUCUAUAGGCAAAUGACAUGAUUUACCAUAAAUAGUCUGAUAUGGUGACAUGCCAAAGCCAGUCUUAUAGGUUGUCCUAUAUGCCUGAAGUGCAUCACUCAACUUGGUAGACCAAUCUUUUCUUGUAGUAUUGACUACUUUGGUGAGGAUUUUCUUAAUCUCUCAAUUUUCUAGCUCAACUUGCCAAUUCGUUUGAGGGUGAUAUGGGGUGGACACUUUAUGCCACACUCCAUAUUUCUGCAAAAGAGUGGAAAAGGGCUUGUUACAAAAGUGUGAACCUCAAUUACUAAUGAUUACUCUCAGAAUGUCAAACCUAGAGAAAAUAUUCUCCUUUAAAAAUUUGAGUACCAUUUUGUGAUCAUUGCUCUUGCAUGCCACUGCUUCUACCCAUUUAGAAACAUAAUCCACUCCCACCAAAAUAUAGAGAUUACCAAAAGGAGGGAAUGGUCCUAUAAAGUCAAGGCCCCAACAAUCAAAGACCUUAACAACACAAAUAUAAUUUUGUGGCAUUUGAUACCUUGUGCUGAUUUUCCCCAAUUGUUGACAUUGUGGACAAGUUCCGCAGUGAGUGUUGCAAUCCUUGAACAUAGUUGGCCAAUAUAAUCAACUCUGUAGAAUGUUUGCUAAAGUCUUCCUCGGAGCAAAAUGACCUCCACAAGCUCCCUUAUGGCACAUUUUCAAUAUGUUGUUCAUCCUCUAGAACACAUCUCCGGAUAAUUUGAUUUGGGCAAAACUUAUACAAAUAUGGAUCAUCCCAAGCAUAGUGUUUUUCUCAUAAAAGAAAAUACUUUUUCAUCUCCAUGUUCCAUUCUGAGGGAAGCUCUCUAGUUGCCAAGUAGUUGACUAUAUUUGCGAACCAAGUCAACUUCUCCACUGCACAAAGUGCAUCAUUAAUUCAUACUGCCUUGAAAUGUGACUCUACUUUAACUCGGGACAGAUGAUCAGUAACCACAUUCUUUACCCUUUGCUUAUCCUUGAUUUGAAUGUUAAAUUCUUGAAGAAGAAGGAUCCAUUUGAUAAGUCUUGUUUUGACAUCCUUUUUGUUGAGUAGAUAUUUCAAGGUCGAAUGAUUAGUAAAAAUUACUAUUGAAGUUCUCAAAUGGUAGUUCUUGAAUUUAUCAAGUGUGAACAGCACUACAAGGAACUCCUUUUCAGUAGUUGUGUAGUUCUUCUAAGCAUCAUUGAGGGUCUUACUAGCAUAGUACACCACAUAUGGUUUUCCAUCCUCUCUUUGACCUAGUACGACUCCCAUUGCAUAGUCACUGGCAUCACACAUGGGGUCUCACAAUUAGUGCGAUAGUGAGGAGUGACUUUAGCCUCUCAAAAGCUUCUGGGCAUGCUUUAGUCCAUAUGAAUUAUGCAUUUUUAAGUAAUAAAGCACAAAGAGGUUAAGAGAUUUUUGAGAAGUCAUGUAUGAACCUUCUAUAAAAAUCUGCAUGCCCCAAAAAUUGUCUCACCUCUUUAACGGUAGUAGGCGAAGGUAGCUUUGAGAUGAGCUCAAUUUUUUCUGGAUCUACUUGAAUGCCUUCUCUAGAGAUGAUACGGCCAAGUACUACCCUUGAGGUUGCCAUGAAGUGACACUUCUUCCAAUUUAGGACCAAGUCUUUCUCAAUGCACCUUUUCAAAACUUUUUUAAAUUUAAAAGACAAUCAUCAAAGGCCUUCCCAUAAACUAUCAGAUCAUCCAUGAAAUCUUCCAUGAUUCUCUCUACCAUGUCAUGGAAGAUAUUGACCAAACACUUUUGAAAUGUGGUCGGCGUAUUACAAAGACCAAAAGGCAUGCGCUUAUAAGCAUAGGUGCCAAAUGGGCAUGUGAAUGUGGUUUUCUCCUAAUCCUCUAAUGUAAUGACAAUUUCAAAGUAACCUGAAUAGCCAUCCAAGAAGCAAUAAUAGUCAUGACCAACUACCUUCUCCAAAACCUGAUCUAAGAAAGGUAAUGGGAAAUGAUAUUUCAUGGUGACUGCAUUUAACUUCCUAAAAUCAAUGCAUACUCACCAACCUGUAGUCAACCUUGUAGGAAUGAACUCUCCUUCAUCAUUCUUUACCACAGUUAUCCUGCUUUUCUUAGGUACUACUUGAGUAGGGCUCACCAAACUAUACCUGCAUCUAAAAGCUUCAAUACCUCAUUUCUGACUACAACUUGUAUAAGGGUAUUUAGCCUUUUUUUGUGGUUGCCUUAGUGGUUUUACAUUAUCUUCCAAAUAAAUAUGAUGCGUGCAAAUCAAGGGAUUUAUCCCUUUCAAAUCUAAAAUAAACCAACCAAUCACUCUUUUACUCUCUUUAAGCACUUUUAAAAAAUUGAUUUGUUGCUCUUCAAUUAAUGUAGUUGAAAUGACCAAAGGUUUUUCUUCAUUUUUCUCUAAAUAAACAUACUUAAAACCAUGUGGUGGGCUUUAACUCUAGUUUGUUGGUCUCAACAUUCCCCUUUUUUAUUUCUUCAUCAUUUUCAACACUAUUCAAAGACUAAAUGCUACAUUUUUCUUUCCACUUUGUAGCAACUUCAACGCGUUCUUUCUCAAUGAUUGUAGAGAAAAAUUUGUUUAUAUUUUCUUCCAUUAACUUUUAUAUGGGUUCUUGCACCAAGGCCUCUAUAAUGCAUGCUUCCUCAUCCUCCACAUCAUCAUGGUCCAUCGGUUGCUUGCAUAAAUUGAAGACAUUCAUUUCCACUACCAUGUUCCCAAAAAAUAACUGCAUCAAUCCAUUCUAACAGUUAAUGACAGCAUUGGUUGUAGCAAGGAAGGCUCUCCCAAGAAUAAUUGGAACAAAAUUCACACAUUUUUUCAACGGUUCUGUAUCUAACACCACAAAGUCCAUUGGGUAGUAAAACUUUUCAACUUGCAGCAAGACAUCUUCGACUACUCCUCUAGGUAGUUUAAUCAAACAAUCUGCUAAAGAGAGUGUAAUGGUAGUAGCCUUAAGCUUUCCCAAUCCCAAUUGCUUAUAGAUUGAAUAUGGAAGCAAAUUUAUACUAGCUUCCAAAUCUAACAAAGCCCUUUCCACGAAUGAGUCUCCAAUUUGGACUGAGAUGGUAGAGCAACCUAGAUCUUUGUACUUCACCAUUGCCUUAUUCUCAAUGAUGGCACUGACUUGCUUAGUGAGGAAUGUUUUCUUGCUUAAUUUAAUCAUUCUCUUCAUAGUGCAUAAGUCCUUAAGGAACAUUGCAUAAGCAAGCACUUUCUUGAUCAUAUCAAGGAGUGGAAUGUUGAUCUUCACUUGCUUCAAAACUUCCAAAAUCUCUAAAGUCUUAUCCCCCACUUUGUGUCUUUGCGUUGCUGAAGGGAAAGAAAAAUGAUUGAAAACACUCUUUUUAUCUUUGCUCACAAUGACUUUCUCAUAUUUUUCAUACUCUUUCUCAUUUCUAGCAUUUUUCUCCAUGGUUGGUUCAUUUCUAGCAAGAAUAUCUUCAUUUAUCGGUAACUUGGGCCUUUGAUAUUCUUUUCCAUUUUUUAUUGUGAUAACUGCAUUGCAAUCUUUCUUUUGCACUUCAGAAACUUCAUUUACUCAUCUCAUAUUUUUCUAUUGUUGAGUUGUGAACUUUCUUUUCUCUUGAGAUAAGCCUGUAGCAAGUUGGCUCAAAAUGGUUCAAAUAUUUGCUAGUUCUUAAGAUGCUUGAGCAUUUAUCCUAUUUUGAUCCUCAUUACGGUUGUCUUCCUUCUAUAGAAACUCUCUCAUCAUAUCUUCCAGUCUUGAGUUAAUUGAUGAGGUAUGAUGUUGUUGUUGAAAAUUUUGAGAUGGCAUACCUUGUGGUUGAAAACCUUUUUGCCCAUUAGUCUGAUUACCCUGAAAUCAAUUUCCUUGCUACUGAAAAUGGCCAUUGUUACCUCAUCUCCAUGAUAGAUUUGAAUAAUUCCUCCAACCUGGAUUGUAAGUGUUGGAAUAUGGAGAAUUGCUAGAAUAUUGCUUGUAUGUCCUUAAGGCAUUGGUUUGCUCUGAAAACAUGUCUUGCACUAUAAUUAGAGUGGGACAAGAUUGCACACCAUAUUCCAUAGACUUACAUAUCAAGAACGGUUGAGUUAUUCCCUAAUUGACUAUUUGUACCUCUUGACCUCUUUUGGCUUCCAAAUCAUCCAACCUUCUCAUAAUGGUUACAAACUUUACUUGGACAUCUAAACUCUCUGGUAAUGUAUUCACUCCACUAGCUCUUGCCCUGUUCAUUGUUCUAUCUCUAGGUGUUUCCUUGACGAUUGGUUCUUCCCAACUUCUAGAUACCUCGGCAACAUAAUCAAGGAAUUGAAAUGCUUCAUCAGGGUUUUUAUUCAUGAAAUCUCCUCCACACAUAGUCUCGAGAAGUUGUUUCAUUGGUAGUGACAUGCCUUCAUAGAAAUAUGAUACUAGUAUCUAGUUGUCAAAUCUGUGAUGGGGAUAUGCUGCAACCAUCUCCUUGAAUCUUUCCCAACAUGCAAAAAAUUUCUCAUCCUCCAUAGCCUUGAAAUUCGAGGUUUCCUUUUUCAAUGCACUAGUCAUAUGUAUUGGAAAGAUUUUUUGCAAAAACACUGAUUGUGGAUCACCCCAAUUUCUAAUACUAUAGGGUCUAAGACUAUUUAACCAAGUCUUAGCUUUAUCCUUCAAUGACAAGGGGAAUAGCUUCAUGCGGAAGAUCUCUAAAGGAGUGUUGGCUUCUCGAAAAAUUGAAACGAUGUCCUCAAAUUCCUUGAUGUGAGAGUAUGGGUUUUCAUUUUUCGUUCCCUUAAUAAUGGGUAACUGAGAUACCACUUAAGGUCGAAUGGUAACAUGAUCAUGAUUUGGAGGUAGAAUAAAACACGAUGGUGUGCUCAACCUGGGAGGAUUUAGAAACUCUCUCACAGUUUUUUGGUCCUACAUAGGUGGUCAUGGCCUGUUGUUACUACUGUUGGAUUCUUUAGUGUCCUCCAUAUUUGGUUAAGAUUCCUCAGUUGUUCUUUGAAGUCUACCUAAAAGAUCUCUUUCCCAACCAAGCAUAAAAUAGAAGAAAAAUAUAUAUAAAGAAAAAAAAGAACUAAAACAAAGUAUUGCCAAUCCCUGCCAACGACACCAAUUUCUUGACGAAAAUUCUCUAUUGUACCAAAAUACUUAGCUUUUUUUACGUAGCAACUCCAAUUAAGAAAAACUAGAGAAAGAGUCACUACAACUUUUGAAGUACUCCAGGCAUCGUCCUCAAGAAUUAGCUUAUGGAAAGAAUUAAUACUAGAAUAAAUGAAUUGCUUUCGUCUAAAUCCUAAAGUGAAAAAAAAAAUGAGAAUAAUGUGAAACUAAGUAAAAGAAAUUAAAUUAAUAACAAAAUGGAUAUUAAUAUUAAAUUCAAUUGAUUCAAGUUUGGGCCUUUCCACAAUCCAACCUAAGGUAUAGAAAUUAGAGAAAACAAAGGUCUAUUAAGUAAUAUGAUCUUAGGGUUUUGGGAUCCUUGGCCGCUCACGAUCAAGUUGAGUUUUAUAACUGAAAAUUGCAUCAGAAACCUAUUUUUUUCCUUUUUAAAACAGAUUCCUAAAACCAUCAAAUGAAUGAGAUUGAUUACUACUUUAAGAUUUGGCUUUUUAACCCUUCCUACUCCUUAUAGCUUUGUUUUGGGGCAAAUAAUGAUAGGGAAGACGAGGAUAACUAAUGAUAAAAAAUUACCAAAAAUCACUAGUAUUGGGUAAUAACCUACCAUAUCAUUCCCUAAACCAACUCACAAGGAUAGGAUAAAAAAAAUGAUAAAUUGUCACCCAACCAAUAAAUAAUCUCAUUGUUAUAAUAAUUUACUCAUUGUCCCUAUAGGUUUCCUAGCCCUUAGGUUUUCAUGCUUUAAGCUCCAAGUUGGCUCUUAACCUCUCAUGGGGGUGAUGUCACAUUCACAAUCCAUAAUAUGGUAAAAAUCCAUAAUUUGAAUAAUAAUAAUAAAAAAAAAAACAAACCAAAGUUCUCGUCUUCUUCCACCUUUGAUGUCAAACUCUCCGAAAAAAAAAAUCCAAGAUCCCUAAAACCUAGAACUAAGAGAGUUUAUAUAAUACCAUCAAUUACCAAACAUGUGGCACACACUCAUUGGCCACUUAUUAAAAAAUAAAUACCUAAAAAUGAUUAAAAAAAUAAUAAAAUGGUGAUUUCUAGUCGUGUGGGCUCCAUUUAGGAUGGAGUGCCCUAGAUGCAAUUCCCGAGGUAGAGGAGACAAAACAUCGAAGUGGCAAUGGGUGAAUUCGAAAUUGGUGUCAUUUCGAUGUGGAUUUCAAAUUCAUAAGUUGAAUUUUAAAAUCAUUUUGAAAUCAUUUCAGCUCCGAUUUGCACAUUAUUUAAUGCUUUGGACUUGUAACCUCCCAAGCUUCGAAACAAUAUAUUGUAUAUAUAAAAUAAACUCUGGGAAGUACUCUAAAUUUGUCCUCAAAUUUAGAGUAUAUAUUAUCAUCAGAUUUUUGAGUUCUAAAUUUCCAUGUAGCUAAAUCUUGCUUCAUGCCUCAUUUCCUAUGUUUUCUUGCCUUCUUUCUUACUCCAUAAUGGUCAUUUCUCAUCUUCCAAACUCAUGAUAUCCUUGUUUAGCCUUUCCUCAUGGUUUAUGAGUCCUGACUCACUUAUUUCCUCGUUUAACCCUUUCUUGAUCUUUCAAAAUUUAAAGUGAUUUAACUUACACCCUUUUCUUCCCUUGAACCUAAGAUAAGUCUCCAAAGUACAAAUUAAACUCAUGGCUAGGGCCUUAGCAUCAAUUUAGGUUAAGUUAGGUGAUUUGAAUGUCCUUUGGUGUAUAAAUCAUAUCGAAUAUGUGCCAUUGAGCACAUAUUUUGGCUCCAAUCAAGCUUUCCCGCCAAAUUCUGCAUGCCAAACAUUGAGUGAUAGAAUGGAGUAGGUUGUCCGAAGAUUCACUUGAGGCUCUAUAGUACAGUCAUGAAAGCACACAAAUUAGAUGAUAUGUAGUUGGUUGCUCUCUUCCCCAUGUCACUUAGUUGAGCAGCAUAGAGGUGGUUGGCAUUAAUUAAGCCUUCAAGACUUUGCACUUGGAAGGAUGUGGCCUAUGAGUUUUUGACAUAGUUUGCCUUUAGUGCCGAUAUUGAUUUUUUUUUUUUCACUAAACAAGACGUCAAGAGUGUUACUUAACCAUCCCUAUGGGAAAAGCAAAAGUUGUUGCCUUAAGUGUUAAUAUUGAUGUUUCUAGGUGAGACUUAGAGGCUACUAAGCAGAGGCCAAAUGAGUCUAUUUCUUCAUUUAUUAGGCAUUGGAGGGCUAAGGUGGUUGAUAUGAUAGAUUGACUUAAGGAGUAAGAUCAGAUUGACGCACUUCUUUGGAACCUUCAACCGGGGUUUGCUAGACAUCUUGUAGGUAUUCCAUUUCAAGACUUUUGAAGUUUGGUUCAAGUCGCUUGUAGUGUUCAGGAGGGUAUUGAUAAAGGGUUAUAGACAAACACUAUUCCUUCCUUAGACAAUAAAGGAAAGAAGCCUAUAGGAUCAUCAGGGAGUCUUGGAGAGGUUAACACUAUCAGUUAUCAUCAUUGAGGUUAGCUUAUCAGUCAUACCAAAGGUCUCCUACAAUUAGAGCCCACUUUCCUCAUCCAUUGUGCCAAUAUUAGUCCACCUAUAUUCAACAACCUUUCAUUGCUCAGACCAGUAUGCAACCACGACUACCAUAUCCUAGAGACACUGGUUCUCAUUCAUUACUCAUGUUCCCACUCAUAUUUUUUACACACAUGAUCUUUAUCGAAGAGGGGCAUAUUUGUAGACCCUCCAUUCUAUCUCCUUAAUACAUGCCCUAUUAAGUGUUCUUUCAAUACUCCACAAUGGUUCCCUAGUGGCUCUAUGUUGCUCAUAUAACCUACCUUUUUUAGCCACCUUGGAGACUUUGGUUGAGGAAUUUAUUUCACCCCUCAUUAUGACUCUUGGCAUAAUCGAGUUAGAUUUAGAUUUUUCUUUUUUCUUUUUAGGAUAGCUCCUUUAAGUACAUCUCUAGAAUAGAGUACUUAGGCAUCAUUUUUCGAUCACCUUGGCCCAUUUAGACACUUUUAGCCCAUUUAGGCACAUCCGACCCAUUUGGGAUCACCCUAACCCAUUUAGAUACAUCUGGAUUAUUCAGAUUACCUUGACCGAUUUAGACACAUUUGGCCCAUUUAGGUACAUCCAACUCAUUUAGGUCACCUUGGGCCAUUUAGACACACAUAGGCCCAUUUAGGCACAUCUGGCCGAUUUAAGAUCACCUUAGCCUAUUUAGACACAUCCAACCUAUUUAGGAUGACCUUGCCUCAUUUAGACACAUUUGACCCAUUUAGGAUUACCUGAACCCAUUUAAGCACAUUCGACCCAUUUAGGUCAUCCUAGCUCAUUUAGACCACUUAGGCCCGUUUAGGCACAUUAGGCACAUUGGAGCCAUUUAGGAUCACCCUGGCCCACUUAGGCAUGCCUUGACCCAUUUAGCUCACUUGGCCCAUUUAGGCACAUUUGGUCCAUUUAGGAUCACGUAGGCCAAUUUAGGCAUAUUCGACCCAUUUAGGUUGCCUUGGCCUAUUUAGAAACAGCCAAGCCUAUUUAGGUCACUUAGGCCCACUUAGGCACACCUUGCCCUAUUUAGGUCACUUAGGCCCAUUUAGGCUCAUUCGACCCAUUUUGGAUCACCCUGACCCAUUUAGGCAUAUUUGGCCCAUUUAGGAUCAUCGUGGCCCAUUUAAACACACCCUAGCCCAUUUAGGUCAUUUAGGCCCAUUUAAGAACACAUUAACCCAUUUAGGAUCACCCCAGCCCAUUUAGACAUACCUAGGCCCAUUAAGGCAUAUCUGACCCAUUUUAGAUCACCCUAACCCAUUUAGACACAUUCGGCCUAUUUAUGAUCACCAUGGCACAUUGGGCCCAUUUAGGGUCAGUUAGGCCCAUCUAAGCACACCCUAAGCCCAUUUAGGUCACCCAUUGUCUCACUUCUUAUUGCAUGGUUUGUGUGAUUGCAUUGUUGAACUUCCUUGCAUGGCCUGCAUGACACUUUGUUUUUUUUUUUGUUAUUAUUAAUUACUUAUUUAUUUUUAUUUAUUAUCUUGCCAUUUAUUUAUUUAUUAUUUAUCUAUUAUUAUUUCAUCAGUUUCUGAAUUAUUUUUAAUUACUAUUCAUUUGUUCAAUGUAAUUUUAAUUUUUUUUUUGUUUUUGUAGGGAAAUUUACCAAAGAGAGAGCCAACGGAGAAGGAAAAUAAGAAUCACCAAAAUGAAAAAGGAAGAUAAAGACAAAAGAGAGUAAAACUUACCAAAAGGAGAGGGGAUUGUGAGUUGCAUUAUGAAAGUAUGGAGAACGCAUUUUGGGAAGUUUAUCAAAGAGAGAGUGAAUGGAGGUGUAAAGCAAGAAUUACCAAAAUAAAAAAGGAAGACAAAACGAGAGAGAGUAAAACUUACCAAGAGAAGAGGGGAUUGAGGGUUGCAUUAUGAAAAUAUGGAGAACAUGUUUUGGUAAUUGAGAAAUUCAGCACAUGGAGGUUUUGGAGUAAGGAGAGGAAGGAUUUGGUCAAGGUGGAAUUUUAAGAAAAAAGGAUAUUCAAUGUGGUAGGAAGGAAUGUUUAGCAUAUUAAGGAAGAAUGUGGGGAUUGGUAGGGGGGAAGAAGAACAAUUGCAAUUUUGAGCAUAAUUUUUGUAAAAUUUAUUGGAUGAUUGGUUUGUAUAAUUUUAAUGUUAGUAGAUUUUAAAAUUUUACGGAAUGAUUGUUAGGUUAAAUUCCCAUGUUGAAUGUGUUUUAAAAAUUCGUUAAAAAAAUUAAAUAAAAAUUCUUUGAAUGUUUGUUAGGUUAAAUUCUCAUGUGAGCAUUAUUAUUAUUAUUAUUAUUUAAUGCUAUAUUUGGUUGAAUUUUCAUGUCAAUAGAUUUUUUUUUAUUAAAAAAAAAUUGUUGAAUGUUUGUUAGUUUAAACGUUUAUGUUAAUAUAUUUUUAAAAUUCAUAGGAUGUUCUUGGCAUAAUUCUUAGUUGCCCUUAUCUCUAAAACCUUUCUAAAAUAAGAAAGUCAUUCAAGAAAAUAAAAAAAAUAUAAGAAAAAGGCAAAGUUGCUGCCUUUUUUUUUUUGGGGGGGGGGGGGGGGCCUUAUUUAUUUAUUAAUUUAUUUUUGUCAAUCUCCUACAAAAUGAUAUCCCACUUACACCCUUACGCAACAAGAGCGCGUGGGACACCCACUUCGACCCAACAACUUUAUGAUGAAUCUGAACCCUGUGGACAAUAAUACCAUGUGCAUAUAUACGAGCCUGUAACACUCAUUUAUGGGUUUAAAUUCAUUCAAAUGAGUCAGUAGUAAAAGCUAUGAAACAGAUCGAACCCCACCUUUUUUUUUUUCUUUUUUUUCGUUUUUAAAUUUUCUGGGGUCCCUCAGUUACUUUACAGAAGGUGGCAGAGAAAGAGAGACGAAUAAUCACUUUCAAUGCUGUUGUCUUCUUGUUGUAAGGGUAAAAUAAGAGGCAAAGAAAUUAAUGAAUUCAUUAUCUUACCUUUCUAUUGAAAUGCCUUCCAAGAAAUGUUUUGAGAGCUUUGAGUUUAGUCUAUAAUAAUGGUAGUAUAUUUCAAUGAAUAUGCAUUCUAGAAAAAUAUAUACCUUUAGCAUAUACCAAGAUAUCCUAGGGUUUCAAGUCAAGUAACAACCAAUCAAAACAAAAUCACUCUUCUUGGAAAACAUGGAUGUUCGAGUAUCCAGCUCUUUUCUUUAAUUGUGCUAACAUCGGCUCUCUCUCCAGCAUGCAAGUGUGCGUCCCAGGCAGCUCUUUUGUGCUUUAAAUGAAUUGAAUUCUUGAUCUUAUUCUGCCAUUGUUUUGGCUCAAACCUAAGAAGUAUAUUUACCCUAACUUCUUUUCAUGUCUUCAACUUACUCAAAGGCUCACAAGUCCCAUUGGAAGUAAGCAGUUAAGGAUUUUUGAACUAAAAUUAUCAAACAUAGUCUAAUAGGUUAUUAAUGAAAUUAUUGAUGCAGAAUAACAGGGCGGGUGACUUCAAAUGGAUACACUGAGGUCUAUCUGUGCGUGUUAGGCAUUCAUGAACCUGUUUUCUUCGGUCAAAGAGCAGCCAAUACAAGGAAAAAACAUGGCGAAAAUUAAGUGAAGUAUGACUUCUGGAAGAUUUAUCACCUUCGUAAAUGAAGUGAGAGUUUUGACCGAAUUGAAGUAAAAAAAUUAAAUGCAACGGCUAGACCGGCUCCAACUAUUAAGAUUAUAAGUGCCACACAGAAAGAACGGAAAGAACGGUCCUAGUAAAUGAAGUAUAAAGACAUGAAAACAUAAAAUUGUCCAGGUAAAUGAAGACAUGCAAUGAAGAAGAAAUCUGUUGCAGACUACACAAAUCACAACCACAUAAAUCAACCACCCACCCAUUUUUCGAACUUCCAGCUCUCAUGCACUGGCACAGUUCGGUCCUUUUAAAAAUUAAAGUAGGCAUCUAAAAUUUUAUUGGUUUCAAGAAAUUUGGUGCACUAGGAUCCAAUGAAGAGAACCUUUUUAUUCUAAAUAUUCAAUAGUAGAUUCCAUUCUUAGCUUACCAAUAUAUAUAAAUUACUCAGGACCUUAAGAAGUUGAUAUUACAAUUUAAACAAUGUUAUAUCAUGUGUAUUAGGAGAGAACCAAUCUCACCCACAAAUCAAGAACACUCAAUUGUCAAUUCUUAAGUUUAUGACUAAUAUAGUUUAUGUAUCUUUUGGAAAGUCAUGCGUAUAUUUAAAAGACUAUAGUGUACACCAAUAAUAAUAUACUUGCACCAUUCAUCUAUGUACCUCUUUCUGGUAUCAGAGCAAUUCUAGCUCCCAUGAGUUCUUUUUUUCGCCUUCAUCCUAUGUUUCACCAUGGCUGAAGCAAGCUCAACCAGGCUAUCCCACCUUCCCUUACCUACCAAUACAACCAUGAACCUGGACAAUCUCAUUGCCAUCAACACAAUUAGCUAGCCAACUUCCACUCAAGCUCAUCCUCACUAACUAUUACUCAUGGAAAACAUAGUUUGCUGCACUGCUCUUUGGAUAUGACCUACUUGGCUACAUUGUCGGAACAAAGCCAGGACAAACAAAUAUCAAUCGUAACUAUACUAUUUGGACAAGUAGGACAAGCUUCUUCUUCUAGGAAUCAUCGGCUCUCUCAGCCAUAAAGUCGUACCUGUGGUUCAUUCAUGCAAAACUUCCACUAAAGCUUGGCAUCAUUUUUCAAAGCUCUAUGUCAAUCCCUCAUUCUCCAAAACCAUGGGAUUGGUAGAGCAACUCAUUCUUCUCAACCAUGGCUCUUAACCAAUGGUUAACUACCUUGCAACAAUCCAUGAUAUUAUUGAUGAAUUGGACCUUCUUAGAGAAGCCAUUCCAAACCAAUAACUCACCCCUUAUGCAUGCAAACAUGUCACCCACGAAUUCAAUGAAUUGUUGUUGUUAUAUGCGCACGAGAUACUAUGAUCACAUUUGAUGAGCUGCAUGAAAAAUUGAUGGAAUAUGAAGCCUUCCUCAUGUAGGAAGAGCUUCGUUCCACUAGCACUCUUGGUACCAUUAAAGUCAACAAUACACAAUUUUCAUCUUCCCAUAGUGACAAAAACGCUAGCCAAAAAUAUUUCCCUAGUAGGAAAGGAUACAAAGGCCAACAUCCUCCUCAUUUUGGGAAUCAACACCCCAACAAGAACGCCACUAUGAUUUGCCAAUUCUGCGAGAAGAAAGGUCAUACUACUUGCUAGUGUUACUUGGCUAAGAAAUUGUUCCUUUCAUCCACACCUACUACUAGUCCAAUUAUCCCCACAAACAACUUCCUAACCAAUUGGCUCGUAGAUAUCAGUGCCUCACAUCAUGUUACAUCUAAUCUUAACAAUUUGUCUCUCUGCCAACCAAUGAAUCUGGUCAUUAAUAGUUUUCACAUUUCCUAUACUUGGAGGGUUGUUCCAAGAUUAAAUAAAGUUUUUUCCCAAGCUAAUCUUAAUGUAGUCUUUUCCUAUUCUUUGAGGGUUGUUCCAAGAUUAAAUAUGCUCAGUUUCAGAAUUGAAAGGACUUUUUCAUAUUGCUAAGAAAAAAACUUAUGAGAUUGAUUUUUCUAUCAAAAUUCUUAUCUCUAAAGUGGAUUCCUUUGAGUGGUGAGCUUAAUUCUGAGUUCUUAUCUUUAAGGUGAUGAAUUUCUUAUCGUUAAAGUGGUGAACUUGUGUUAUUAACUUAUCAUUUUAUUUCCUUAAAACGGUAUCAUUUUGUGUCAGAAAAAGUAGUUACAGGCUCCCUUCAAGUUUCUUAUGUAUCAACCCACAAUCAACUUGUGGAUAUACUCAACAAACCAUUGCCCAAGUCCCGCUUUACAUUCUUUCAGUCCAAGAUUGGCAUUUUUUUUUUUUUUAUGGAAGCACCAUCUUGCAAGGGCAUAUUAGGAGAGAACCAAUCUAACCCACAAAUUAAGAGCACUCAACAAACCAUUGCAAGGGCAUAUUAGGAAAGUCAUGUGUAUAAGAUUGUAGUGUACACCAAUACUAAUAUACUUUCACCAUUCAUCUAUUUACCUCUUUAAUGUGAAUGACAUCUACACCAAAAGAUAAUUUGGUGCCUAUACAUGCGUUAGUUUUUCAACUAAAUUGUUGAACAAAUGCCAUGAAUUGAGGUAUUACGAAUUAUUAAAAAGUUAAACUUGACUUAGAAUGUUUCUAAAAAUUAGAAUUUCACUUAGUUUAAGCUAACUAGAAUAUUUUAUUUUUGGCAAUUUAUUAUUUUCUAUUUUUUUUUUAUGAAGUUUUAUAUUUUAUAAGAAGUUUCUAUUUUAUUAGGUGUUAGUAUCUAUAAAUAAGAUGUAAUUUAAUAGUUGAAUAAGAGCGGUGAAAAACAAUAAUUUUUUUCUUAAUCCAUCUCAGUUGCUUAUCUCCCUUUAUGUUAUUAUUUGUCAUAAGUUAUUUCAACCCUAUUACUCCAACAAAUGGCUAUCACUGUCAUUCAAAAAAGUGGAAAUUGGCAUGUAUCUAUUUCAAGUCCACAAAGUCAAUAAAUGUAAUUACAAUAAAGGGGUAUGAAACUACUCUAUCCUAAAAUUAAUCAAAAGGAAUUUUUUUUUUGAAAAAUAUAAGUAAGAAAGAUAAGAAAGCUCUUACCUCCAUCAAUUAAGCAAUGGAUGAAGGUACUUUUGAGAAGAUUUUCAGUGCAACCAUAACCAAAUAUGAGAGAAUUUUAAGCACACAUAACAUAUUUAACAAUAUACAAAAGAUUAAUCUUCAAACUCUAAUAAGAGAAUUUGAAAGUUUGAGCAUGAAAAAAGAAAUCGAAAUAAAUCUCUAAUUAUUUUUCUAGAGUAUUAGCUGUUGUGAGUUUACAAUAAAAAUAUGUCAAAAGUUUGAAUGAUAGCCAUGUGGUAAAAAAAUAUGUUCAAUCUUUAGAUUCCAAAUAAGUUUAACUAUAUUGUUGUUGUCAUUGAAGAAUAUAAACAUUUAGAUUCUAUCACCAUUGAUCAACUCAUGAGAUCACUAUAGACUCAUAAAGAGAUUAAAAAGAAAUAACUAAGAAAAAUUACAACUUUUUUAAACAGAUUAAACUUAUACUAAAGGAGAAUGAUGAAAACAUUAGUGAAAGAAGUCAAAACAAUCAUGAAUAUGUCAAAGACAUGGUCAUAGCCAUGGCUAAGACAAUAGAGGAAGAGAUAGGUUUAAUUUAUCAAACAAUGAAAUAACAAGUCAAAAUUCACAUUCCUCAAGAGGACAUGAAAGAUGACACAACUUCAGGCAUAAUAAAAGAAGAGGAUAUGAUAAAUUUCAAAUUGAAUGUUAUAAUUAUAAAAAAUAUGGUCAUGAUGCUUAUGAAUAUAGAAAUGCUACAAACAAUAUGAAAAGAUACGUCAAAGGAGUUGCCACCUAGGACCAAACUUCCUGCUGAUCAAGUCUCAUAUCGAAUAUUGUAAACCCUCAAUUUUGUCCCUUUAGCACAUGUCUUUAAAAUUCGUUUUCAAUGCUCCACAAUAGUUCCUUGGUGGCCCAUGGCUACUCAUACCACUUACCUUUUUCUGAGUCACCUCGGAGACUUUGGUUGAGGGAUUAUCUGACCCCUUAUUGUGACCCUUGGCAGCCCUAACUUAGACUUAGGCUUUUCUUGCUUUUUAGGAUAGCUUUUAGAUACACUUGGCCCAUUAGGCACCACCUUAGGCCCACUUAGGUCACCUUUUAAGUAAUUUUUUGCAUGUUUGCAUGAUUGCAUUUUUUUGUAUGACUUGCAUGGCUUGUGGGGCCCGAUUUUUGUUAAUUUGUUUAUUUUUAUUUAUUUAUUUUACUUUAUUUUUUAUUUUUUAUUUUUUAUUUUUUUUUUACUAUCAUUCACUUUUUAUUGGUUAUCUUCCUCUUUAUAUUAUUUUCCUUAACUUAUUUAUUUAUUUAUUAUUUUUACCAUUUUCUAAUUUAUUUACUUAUUUAUCUAUUCAUUCAAUUAUUUAACUUAAAAAAUUUCAUGCUUUUGCAAGGAAACUUACCAUUGGAGUUUAAGGAAAGUGGGACUCUCCAUCGAAGGUUUUUGGAGGGGAAUUUGAAAUUGGGAAGAUUGCUUUUGAAUUGGAAGAUUUAAAAAAAAAGGAAAAGGUGAAAAGAAGAAAGAAAAUAAGAGAAUUUGUCUUUUUUAGAGAGAUUUAGGUUUUAGGGGGGUAAUAUAUAUAUAUAUGUGAGAAAAGGAAAAGAAGAGGACACGUAUUGGAGUCACGGUAGGGAGAGGAAUAAAGAUAGCAAAAAAAGGAUUUUUUCUUUUGAGGAGUACGCUGAAGAAGAGGAAGGAGAUGGGUGAUUCAUUACUCUGCAGCUGCCUAAAGGUUAUAGUGUUUUCAUGUUUCACUUUUAUUGAUUUUUCGUCAAGAUCAGUUUGGUACUGCUUUAGUCUCUCUAUAUCCUUGCUUCCCAUAGAGAUGUGGAUGCUUGCUAAUCAGGUAUGCCCUUUCUACCCCACAACCCUAAAAUUCUAUGAAUGUGUAUGUUCUCAUGAGACAUGACCAUGUUUGAUGCCAUAAUUGAUUGCCUUGAUGCUUGAUUGAUAAUCUUUGAUGAAAAUACAUACCAUGUAUCAUAUUUCCAAACUAAUCUCUUAUGUUUCAUGAUAGCGCUUGAGAAGCGGUUUCGGUACGCACCCUAACUUUCCUUUAUUGUGAUUUGAUCUUGUUUAGCAAGCUAUUUUUUGAAAUCACCUUAGUCUAUCUAGGUACUCUCAAUUAAUCAAUUAAUUGCCCCACUUCCCUCAACUUAGUCAGUAGAGACCUCUUUGGGGCUUAGAGGGGUGCUACCUCCUAGAGGUACCUUCCCAAUAAGCAACCUGAUCCCCAGACCUAGACUCGGGUUUCUCAAAGACAUGCUUUUUCCAAAACUAUGGAGUCACUUUUUAGGGUUUCUCUUUCUUGUUUUAUUUUCCCUUCAAAAUAAAAAUAAAAUAGGUGGUGAUUCCAACUUUUCUAAAAUUAAUUUUUCACAAAUAAAAAACUAGUCUCGCCGAUCGAGUGGGGACACACGUGAAAAAUGCGGGUCCGCAAAUAUCACUUUCGAAGUUACUAGAGCUAAGGAGGUAAUUGAAGAAACUAUUGGAUGCAUGCAUGAUCCAAUCUUUAAGGGUUUGUUUUGGUGCUCCUAUCUUAUUCCAAAUAGAUGUGUGUUAACUAUUGGGCCUUGAACAAAGUAACGAUCAAGAAUAAGUAUCCAAUCUCCUUAGUGGAAGAAUUAUUUAAUAAACUGGCCAAGGCAAAGUUUUUCUCCAAAUUCGACUAACGGUUAGGAUACUAGCAAGUAAGGAUUGUAAAGGGGGACAAAAAAAAAAAAAAGACUAUAUGUGUAACUCACUAUGGACCAUAUGAGUUCCUCAUGAUGCCAUUUAGACUAACUAAUGCCUCAAUAACAUUCUACAACCUAAUGAAUGAUUGCCAUACAAGUUCUUAUAUGCCUUUGUUGUGGUUUACUUUAAUGCAUUGUUGUCUAAAGCAAGACCUUAGAAGAGCCUGUGAAUCACUUGAGAUUAGUGUUUCAAAGACUAAGAGAACAUGAACUCUACUUGAAGAUGGAGAAGUGUGAGUUCGCACAAAGUCAUAUUACCUAUCUAGGACAUUAGAUAGAGGAAGGGUUUAUCAAGAUGGAUGUUUAGACCAUUAAAGAUUGGCAUGCUCUAAGCAAGAUGACACUACCUGACUAUUAUUGAAUGUACAUAAGGGGCUACUUCAAGAUAGUGGCUCCCCUUGCUAACCUUCUAAAGAAGGAUAUUUGCUAGGAUUGGAGGUUUGAAUGCUAGAAAGAUUUUGAGAAGUUGAAAGUAGUGAUUUGAGUCAAGUUGGUGUUGCAAUUACUAGAUUUGGAUCUCCUAUUUGAGGCUCAAAUAGAUGCAUCAGCUAGGGCCUUAGGAAGGAUCUUGGUGCAGGAAGGGCACCCAAUAGCCUUUGAGAGUUGAAAACUUAAUGAGUUAGAACAAAGAUACUCCAUUCACGAGAAAGAGAUGACAAUGAUUAUCCAUUGCUUAUAGUAGUGGAAGCAUUAUCUGUUGGGGAGUAUAUUUACUAUAUAUGGUCACAGGCAACAUAGUUAAUACAUUUUUCAAGAUGCAAAAGGAGUUGAGCCCUAAGCAAUCUAGGUGGCAAGAAUUCCUAGCCGACUUCAAGUUUAAAUGGUUGUAUUGACCAAGAAGACAUACUGUAGUUGUAGAUGCCUUAAACCAGAAGGAAUUGACAGAGUAUGUGAUCCCUCUAUCACAUGUGAUCUCAUAUUUUAAUGAAAAGAUCAAGCAAGCUGCUAAGCUUGAUUCUACUUAUGAGAAGAUGAAUCAACAAGUCAAAGAGGGGGCUAUUAAAAAGUAUUGGCUAGAAGAUGACCUCUUGGUGGCUAAAAGAGGUAGGCUAUGUGUACCAAGAAGUUGCUUACAUAAGGAGUUACUAAGAGAGACCUAUGAUGUCGAGUAGCCAGGUCACCUUGGCAAAGAGAUGACAUCAAUAGUAUUGUCCAACUACUAUUACUAGCUAAAAAUAAGAGAGGACAUCUAGGCUUAUGUUCUAUAUUGUUUGAUAUGUCAAUUGGAUAAGACAGGCAAGAAGAAAGCUAUAAGGUUACUACAACCUUUCCCUAUCCUAAAGAGACCUUAGGAGAACAUAUUUGUGGACUUCAUCGGUGGCUUUCCAAAAGUGAGGGAAUUUAAGUAUAUCUUCAUGAUAGUAGAUAGACUCUUUAAGUAUGUUGCUUUCAUACUUACACCACAUGCAUGUCCCGUAAAGGAGGUUGUUAGGCUAUUCCUCAACCAUGUGGUCAAGUACUUCAAGUUGCCUAAAGACAUAGUCAGUGAUUUUGAUGCUUGAUUCAUUGGUUAGUGUUGGAUUGAGUUGUUUAAACUCCUAGGAUUGAAGUUGAAGUUCUAAACAACAAAUGAUUCAUAGAUAGAUGGGCAAACAAAGUGUAUCAAAUGUGCCACUUAAGGAAUACCUCAGACACUAUGUUUUUGCAACACAAAAGAACUAGAUUGAUUUAGUGGAGAUAGCUCAGUUAUCCUAUAACUUACAUAAGAGUUCAAUAAUAGGGUUGAGUCCCUUUGAAUUGGCUAACAAGUGUUAGGGUUCCCAACAAAUACCCCCUUAGAGGUUAGGGUUUCUAAGGUUUUUCAGUUGUCUUCCUAAUCUAGAGAGCGUAAGAGAAAGAGCUUAGGAAUCAUCCCUUCUAAAGCCCACUCUUUGGAGUUCUAAGAUCGUAGUUCGAGUCAUCAAGUGUAAGAUCUUGGAUGUACAAGACCUCCAAACUCUUCAAGUUUAUUUUUUACCCAUGAAAUUGAUUUGGGGACAUCCAGAUCUAGACAUGAAUGUUUCUUCUCUAGUUUUAUUAAUCUAAAUCAUUUUAAAAGUCAUAUUUCAAUUCAAAUUAGUUUCUACAAAAGCCUAGGGUAGAUUUACAUGUACCUAUACAAUCCAAGGUAUGGGAAUGGAAUGAUCCAAGGUUCUCAACAUACACACUAUCUUACUCCCAUGAGAUAUCAUGGUGCUUUUAUUAAGAAUACUUGUUGCUAGCUUUCCCAUAUGGAUAUAUGACCACAUUAGGGUCUCACCUAUAAAUCAAAGUUUCUUAUUGAUUUUGGUAUAAAUUCAAUAUAUUCUCAAGGUUGAGAAUCUAUGUAUUACAGUAGCUUAGUGAAUCAUGACAACUAAUAGCCUUAUGUCAUGAUUCACUAUAGGUCUUGUCCUAUAUGUAACCAUACACACUAAUGUACUCAUCAUGGGAAACUCAUCUCAAUGGUCAUGAUAAGUCAUCUCUCCAAUUAGGAGGUGGUGCAUUGUAGUCUUUAUUGAAUUGCCCAAAUCUAUGAACCAAUUAUAAACAACUAAUCAUCUUGCAAGGAAUCCAUGACUUAUGUCCUUUAUGCAAUUCCUAGUACACUAAAGUCAUAUGCAAUGCAAGUGAAAUGACAUGUUUAUUUAGGUAACCAAUCAGUACAUAAUGGGAUAGUAAGUUGAGCAAUAAACAUAAAUAAAUAAAUUUAUUAAUGAAUCUACAACUAUUAUAUCAUGUCAUGCUUUCCAAGGCACUAUCCCAAUAGGUUGGAUUAGGUGACUCAAGUUCAGUUUAAGCUUAAGUCACUUAAACCCAUAAGAAGCCCUAUAUAAACACUCUAAGAGGUUUAGGGUUCACGAUUUUAACAUUUUGGCCACCAUCUUCCUAAAAGAGAGUAAGAGCAAGCCUUAACCACUCUUAGGAGAGGAAGAGAAGCUCACCCUUAUCUUAUGCCAUGAUCCUUGAAAUGAGAGAUCGAGUAAAAGAUCUUUGGGUAGAUGAACUCCACCACAUCCCCAACAUCUUCUUUGACAUCUUCUUGGGAUUAGAUUCGAUUUUGGAACAUCCAAAUUGUAGGUAUGAAACUUUAACCUCUACAUCUAGAUCAUAAUGUGGUUUUAGUUACCAUAUAUUUUUACUAUGUUAGAUACAAAGCCUAUGAACUAAGUAACUAGUGGUUCCCAACAGUUUAUAGUUAUAAAAUGAUGAAAACUAAUGUCUUUUCACCAACUAAACCUCAUAAAGCAUUAAAAUCAUUAGUUUCAUUGCAAAUUCAAGUUAAAGAUUAAAAUGCACCAAGUAUGAGUCUCACCCACAAAAUGAUCCCUAAUGCUCAUUAAUAUAUAUAUUAAAAGUCAAAAGGAUAAUGAAGAUGAUGACAAACCAAUAAUCAAAGCAAACUUUUGAUAAUGAAGAAAUAUGUUAUGUUCAGUGUCAAAAUAAAAUCAACACUAAAUUUUCUAAUAAAAGAAUUUGAUAGUAGGUUGUGACUACAACCUAGAUAUCAAUUCCAUAUUGAUACAAAAACAGAGCUUAAGGCAAUUUGAAAAACAAGCAUAAAAUCGAUGGUUUUGGAAUUGAUAAUAAAAUCAAUAAACCAACUCAACUUGAUACUCCUUGACAACAUGGAACCAAUGUCAAUCCCAAUAUGAUAACAAGAUCUAUACAACAUGAAAAACUGACAAAGCAAAAUUUACCAGACUUGGUAUCAAAUCAAAAUCAACAUGUAUUUCAAUAAAUUAUAUAUAUAUAAAUCAAUACAACACUAACAAUGGUAAUGUUAUUAUUUGGGAUAAACUAAUAUACAAAUAAUAAAGGCUCUGAGGUAUCAAAAUAUCAUUAAUGAGUACAAAAUCUAAUUCAACCAAUUUCAGGCAUUCUCAUGUGAAUUUACAAGUAUAAAAUAAUGAAAACUAAUGCAUUUUCACAAGCUAAACCUCAUAAAAGCAUUGAAACCAUUAGUUUCAUUGUAAUUUCAAACUAAAUAUCAAAAUGCACCAAAUAUGAGUCUCUCACGCAAAAUGAUUCCUAAUGCUCAUUAAUCUGAUUUUUUUUUUUUUCAUAUAAGACAAAAACAAAAACAAUUCAACAAUUUUUAUAGGGCUAAUUUUUUUUAAAAUGAUAUAGAAUAAUACAAAAGAAAAUAGAAAGGAGAGGAUAAUAUAUUGAAUGAAAGCUUGAAGUGCAGUUGGGGAGGCUUCAAGACUUGUUCAUAGCUUUGAUCUUCCUUUUUGAUCUCCAAUUUGACAAAGUUUCUUCUGCUUUUAUUUCCAUAGAAUUGUCUCCUUUGAAAAUGUAGCUCCCUCUUUGAAUUUAUUGCCUUGAGGAUGAUGAGGAUGAGGAGGAUGAUGAUAAACCAAUAAUCAAAGUUAACUUUUAAUAAUGAAAAAAUAUACUAGGUUCAAUGUCAAAAUCAAAUCAACACCAAAUUCUCUAAUAAAGGAAUUUGAUAAUAAGUUGUGACUCCAAACCAAAUAUAAAUUUCAUUUUGAUACAAAAACUGAGGCUAGACUAAUUCGAUAAACAAACAUAAAAUAGGUGGUUCGGGAAUUGAUUUGAAAUUAAUACUUGAGUAAAUACAACUACCCAAAUUGAUACUCCUCUACAACAUAGAACCAAUGUCAAUCCCAAUAUGAUAACAAGAUCUAUGCACCAUGAAAAAUCAACAGAACAACAAUUACCAUAGACUUGCAUUGAAUCUAAAUUAACAUUGAUUUCAAUGAAGUAUUAAAAAAUCAAUACAAUACAAACAAUGGCAACAUUAUUCUUUGGGAUGCAUGGAUACAAAAACAAUUAAGACUUUGAGGUAUCAAAAUGUUAUUAAUGCUUCAAUAAAAAAUCUAAUUCAACAAGUUUUUUUUUUAUUUCCAUUUGAAUUUACAAGUAUAAAAUGAUGGAAACUAAUGCAUUUUCAAUAGCUAAAACUCACAAAAGCAUUAUGUAGAACCUUCCUUUUUGUCCUGGUAACACAUGCUUUUAAUCGUAUUUAGUACCCCUCAUUUUUAGCAAUUUAAAUUGUUUAUAUAUAUAUAGAUUAUACGAAUGUUUUAACACUUAGAGAAAUUGGAAUGAAGCAAAAUAUGCAAAAAAAAAAAAAAAAAAAAAGAAAUAAUUGUCUAUAGUUAUCUUUAUUAUUUUUUAUACAUUUCUAUUGACAUGGUAUAAAUCAUCAAUAAUUGUUGUGAGUAAUAGCAUUGAGAAAAGUCAAUGUCCAUAAUAAUACUCUAUUGCCAUUUUUUAUUUUUUAUUUUUGUAAAAUAAUAAAUCAAAUCACAUCUUGUAACAUUAUCAUUAAGAUUUACAUGAUUUCUUACAAUGUAGCUUAAAACCAAAUAUUUCAUCAAAGAAGUUAUCAAUAAUUAGCCCCACACAAUGAUAUCUAUUAUAAUACAGACUUCCUUCAAUAUGUGUGUUUGUGAGUGUAAAGAAAAUAACAAAGAUAAGAAAGUAAGGUAAUAGAAAUUGAGAAAGUAAGAGAAAUAUUUUUUUUUUGUUUUAUUUUUCUCUCUCUAUUUAUUAUGCUAUUUAUAGAGUAAUAUAUAUAGUAAACCUAACUAAAAAAUUCUUUAACAAUAAUAGAAGAAAACCAAUGAGUAUAUGACACGUGUACAUCUUGUAACCAUAUGAAACUAUCUCUUAACAUUCUUCCUUGAACUUAAGGUAGAAAGAUUUUCUACUUUGAGUUUGUUUCUUAGAUUUACAAAGUGAGUGCUUGAGACAACUUUUGUUAAGACAUCUGCUACUUGAUCAAUGGAAGGCACUUGUUGGACUAAAACCUUUCUUUGCAAAACCUUUUCCUUGACAAAAUGUAAAUCCAAUUCAAUGUGUUUGUCCUAGCAAGUAAUAUUGGAUUAGCAACCAACAUAAUAGUGCUAAGAUUAUCACACCAAAUAACUAGUGGUGUCGGCAAAGUGAUUUUAAGUUUUGAGAGAAGAUAUUGUAACCAAGUGAUUUUUGCAACGAAACUAGUUAGGUUUCUAUACUCUACUCUUGUACUUGAUCUAAAAAUAGUAUGUUGUUUCUUUGACUGCUAAGUGACUACAUUUAAACCAAAGUAUACACAAAAUCCUAAAGUUGAUCUUCAAUCAUGAGGAUCAAAGGCCCAAUCGACAUCACAAAAUGCUAUAAGAUCAAGAGUAGGAGACUUUCUUAAAUGGAAUUUCAAGUAUCUAAGAAUUCUUUUGACUACUGUUUAAUGAGAUUCUAAGGGAGCUUGCAUAUAUUGACACUUUAUUAAUACUAUAGGUAAUUUCAAGCCUAUUAACUAUUCCUUAUUGUAAAGGUCUUACAAUUGAUCUAUAUAACUUCACAUCCUAAACUGAUUCACUUCCAUAGCUUAAAAGUUUCUAUUCAUUGGUCAUAGGAGUAGAAAUAGGAUUGGAACCUUGCAUUUUGAAUUUUCAUAAUAGAUCAGUUAAGUAUUUUCCUUGAGAGAGGUGAAUGCCUUCAACAAUAUGCUUUACUUCAAUCCCUAAAAAAUAAUUGACUUCUCCAAGAUCUUUUAAGGUAUACUCUCUAUUUAAUUGGUAAUGAGAUAAAUCAUAACUUUUUCACUACUACCAGUGAUAAGAAUAUCAUCUACAUAUACAAGAAUAUAGGUAGAAUGAAUAGAGAUUGAUCUAACUUUGUAGAGAUAAAUCCAAAAGGAAUAUAGGGUUGCACUUAACUUUUCAAGCCAAGCACUUGGUGCUUGUUUGAAGUCAUAUAAAGUUUUAUGUAAUUUGUGAACAAGAUGAGACUAGUUGUGCUGAAUAAAACCAGGAGAUUGUUGCAUAAAAACUUCCUCAUGUUAUUAAUGUCUAAUUGAUGAAUUAACCAACCUCUAGACAAAGUUAUAGUAAGCAUAACCCAAAUAGUGGCAUGUUUAACAACUGGAUUGAACGUUUCAGUGAAAUCAAAACCAGAUACUUAAUGAAACUCUUUAGCCACUAACUUGGCUUUGUACUUCUAAAUUGAGCCAUUGGGGUUUUCUUUCACUUUAAAUACCCAUUUGCAGCCAAUAGGUGUUCUUCCAGGUGGUAAUGAGACUAAGGAUCAUGUAUUAUUCUUCAAAAAAGCCAUCAAUUCAUCAGUCAUUGCUUGUUUCCAAUGAUGUAUAUGUAAAUCUUCCUUAACACAAGUAGGUUCACAUGUGGCAGCAAAAAGCUUUGGUUUAAAAAAUUCCAGUUUUAGAUCGAGUGACCAUAGAAUGAGUAUUUUUGCAAGGUUGCAUUGGAACAAAAGCUAAAUCUUCUUGUGUUUGGUCUUGUGAAAGAGCUCUAUGACCAACAACACUGUCAUAAGUAUUAGUAGCAAGAGGAGAGGUAGUGGGUACUAAAACAUUAGUAACAGAUUGGACAAUUUCUAGAUGAGUAAACCUACCAAAAAAAGAAAUUAUUAGAGAAGCAACAGAAAGAUGAAAAAAGGGUGAAACAUAAUUAGAUAAGGAUGAUUGAAUUUUAUGAGCAAAAGAAAAUGAAGACUCACAGAAAAUGACAUCUCGAGAAAUAAUAAAUUUGCCAUUAAAAUCAAGACAUUUAUAGCCUUGAUGAUUGAGACUAUAACCUAGAAAAGUACAUUCAACGAAUUGGAACUGAAGCUUGUGUUUGUUAUAUGAAUGAAUGUUAUGAAAAUAGGAGCAACCAAAUAUUUUUAAGAAAAAGUAAUCUGGUAAGGUUUUGAACAAAACUUCUAGAGGAGUUUUAUGAUGAAAAACAAAAGUUAGUAAAUUUAUUGUUGAGAUAAACAUAAGCUUUAAAGGCUUCAUCCCAAUAUUCCAUUGGCAUUAAAGCAGAUGCUAACAAGGUGAGACCAUGUUCUACAAUGGUUUUAUGCCUCCUUUCAGGCCAACCAUUUUGUUCAUGAGUAUAAAGACAAGAAUAUCUAUAAAAAAUGCCAUUUAAAGUUAAAAAAUUUGUGAAAGCUCUAUAUUCUCCACCCUAAUUUGUUUGUAUGGUGUUCAUUUUAAAUCCUAGUUGUAAUUCACCUUGAGUUUUGAAAUUAAGAAAGGCUUGAAAUGCAUCUAAUUUAUAUCUAAGCAAGUAGAUCCAAGAAAAUCUUGAGUAAGCAUCAACAAAGUGAAUGUAGUAGUAAUAACCACUAGAAGAUUGAAGUAGAGAGGGACCCCAUAAAUCAGAGUGUAUAAGUUGUAGGGUUUGAGUGUAAACAAUGUCAGAAAAAUAAAAAAGAAGUUUGUGAAUCUUGCCAUAACAACAAGUUGAGCAAAAAGAAAAUUGCAUUUUAUUAGGAACAUAAAUAUUGCAAUUAAUUAGACAGAACAAACUUUAAAAUUUUAAAGAAUGGAUGUCCAAGUUUGUGAUGCCAUAGAUCAAAAGUAUUCAAAGAACCAGAAGAAUCCUUAGUUGCAGUACAAGAGUCAAGAUUAUCUUGAAAGGGGCUAGAAACAUGAUUCUGAAAUAAAGAGGUGGAAAACUCGCAAAAGGUUGUAAAAGAUGGAACUGAUAGUGGCUUUGAUGAAGACAAUAGUGUGAAAUCAUCAAAUACGUAAAGUUCAUUCUUAACUCUCCUUGCCAUGAAAAUUUCCUUGGAAGCUUGAUCUUUGACAUAACAGAAAUUAGGAAAGAACUCAAAAUACAUAGCAUUAUCUUUGGCAAAUUUAGAGACAUUGAGCAAAUUUUUGGUAAUAGAUGGAACAUGAAGAAGAUGAUUUAAAGAGAGCAAUUUCAAAGUAAAUUGAGAUUGAAAAGAUGAUUGUCCAAUAUGUUUAAUGUUCAACCCUGUUCCAUUACCCAUCAUGAUCUUAUCUUACCCAACAAAUUUAGUUUUAUUCAUCAUAUUAUUAAUGUCUAGUGUGAUAUGAUUUGUAGCUCCUGAAUUUGGGUAGGCAAAUUCAAGAGUAGUAGCAACCAUGGCAAUCAUUUGUGAUGAAUCUUGAGUAGAAGGAAAUUCAUGCUAAAAUGAAGAUGGAUCAAAUCUAUAGUAACAUGGUUACACCAAAUGACCAACACGACCACAAAAUUGGCAUUGAGGUUUAUUGAAAUUCCAAUAAUUUUGACCACCAUUGAAGCCUCCAUGACCUUUGCUACUAGGACCUCUAAAUUUAUUGAAUCCACGACUACCAAAACCUCCUUUACUAUGAAAGUUAUUGAAAACACAAAAAUCGCCCUGAACAAAAGUAGAAAAGCCAUUUUCAGAAGAAUUGUAAGACCUUUUCUUGUCUUUGUUAUUCUCACUCUGAGUUGCUAAGUUAGCAUUCAAAUUAGAAUCUAAAACUUUUAUAGCCUUCUCAAUGUGCCUUUCUUGAGCCAAAAGAACAAACUUUAUUUCAUCAACAGUAUAUGAAUCCAUGUGUGUGGUAACAACAGUAAUCAAUGUGUCAUACUUGAGGGUAAUCCUUCAAAAAUUGUGUCAAUAUGAUCCAAAGUAGAUAUAGAAUAAUUAACCAAUAAUAUGCUAUCAACAAUGAUUUUGAUUUGCAAGUGAUAAUCAUUCAUGGAUGAUGAACCUUUCUAAGAGCUCUUGAUUUGCAUCUUGAACUUAUCAGUCUUAGUAUGAGUUUUAGUAGCAAAGAAAAUCUCCAAUUUCUCCCAAAUCUGAAAAGAAGUUACACAUCCAACCAUUCUUGUUAAAAGCCCUUUGGACAUUAAUGAAUGAAACCAAGAGAUUAGUAAUUAGUUCUGUUGUUCCCAAUUAGAGAAAUCUCAAUUGAUUUUACCACUUGUUUCAUUAAUGGAAGAAAGAAAUUUUGGAGGAGUGGUAUCGGUUCUAUUGAUGAACUUUGAGAGCUUGUAACCCUUGAUUGCAACUUCAACUUGUUGACGCCAAAUCAAAAAAUUAUUAUGAUAAAGUUUUAUGGCAAUUGAGUGAUUGAAGGAAAUCAGAACAAAUUGGGAUAGGAACGAAAAAGUAGGGGUGAGGGAAUCGGCCAUGGAUGAGACCUCCGAUACCACGUAAAGAAAGUAAUAGAGAUAAGAAAGUUAGGUAACAGAAAUUGAGAAAAAUCUUUUCUCAUUUUCUAUUUUAUUUUUCUAUUUCUAUUUAUUUUGCUAUUUACAGAGUAAUAUAUAUAGUAAACCUAACUAACAAAUUCUCUAGCAAUUCAUCUAACAAUAAUAGAAGAAAAUCAACGAGCAUAUGACACAUGUACAUCUUGUAAUCAUAUGAAAUUAUCUCUUAACAAUGAGUAAAAAACAAAGUUCUUGGUUUAUAUUCAACAUAAAUGUUAUAAAGGUAUUGCUAAUGGCAAGUAAUAACAAAAAAUCUCAAUACUAAAGUUUUUAGCAUGCUAACAUUUAUUUUUUCUGUUAUAACAACUAUAUUAGUAUAGAAUAUUCUCGAUAUAGUUUGUUAGAAUAAGUUUUGAGCUAUACAACCUCGUUUAGCAAUGUAAGGAAAAACACUUUCCUAUAUAUUUUUUGUACUUUCAAACUAUCAAUUAAAUUCAAUGAAAUGAGAAUGUGUUUUCUCUUUUCUAUUCUCUUCUUAUAAUAUGGUAUCAAAACAUUUUCCUUUUGUUGUUCUUCCAUCUUCUUGCUAAAAUGACCCAUGGUGGUCAAAAUAACAACACCAACUUAUUCAAGUCAUUGAUACCUCCUUCUUCCACUAGUACCAUGGCUUAACAUGAUUCUUCUUCUUCCAUGAAUAACACUAAUGGUCCUUUUUUCUUGCACAGUUGUGACCAUCCCGAAUUGGUUCUUGUUUUUCAUUUCCUUACUACUCUUAACUAAAAUUGUUGGAGUCAAGCCAUGGCCAUGGCUCUCAACACCAAGCAUAAACUCGUUUUUGUCAAUGGAUUGAUUCCACAACCACCUUCAGAGAAUCCUGUUGCUAAGGUUUGGUUAAGAUGUAAUAGUAUGGUCACUUAUUGGCUUCUCAAUGUCGUUUCCAAAGAGAUUAUUGAUAAUUUCCUCUACCUUGAUAGUGCUCAAGAUAUUUGGGCAGAUCUAUGAUCCAUGCCCAGUCGAGUGUUUAUCAAAACAUUUAUAAAACCUACAACACCUUAUAUUAGGAUAGCAAAGACAAAGCUACUAUAGUAUAAUGACUCUAGGAUUGUUGAUUCCUGCCCAGUCGGUGUCUCAACUAAUUCGUGUCCAGUUGGUAUCCUUGAUUGCGGGAGUAAUCAACAAAAUUUAUAACCUAUUACACCAUGAACUAGGGUAGCAAAGACAAAGCUAUUGAUUACUACCCAAAAAGUGUUAUUUUGCACCUUUAAUUCAUUAUGUUUUAAGCACUUUUGUGUAGUAGUUCUCCAUUUUUAUUCAAAUUGGCAUGUUAAGGACCUAGCAAUGACUUCUAAUCAUAUUUGUGGCUAUUUUUAGUGUUUUGACAGCUUUUUGGAUCAUUAAGACAAGCCAAGUAAAAGAGAGAAGCAAAGAGGAAAACAGAGUGAAGAAAACAGAGGACAGCAGCUGCAGUCUUCCUUCGCACUUUUGGAGCACUUCCCGAAGUCCAUUUGCUACAUGCUAUAUACCAUUUCAAAUCUCAGGAAGUCAAGAAUCUAACAAUUCAAACUGUGUAUGAUUUGGAGCUGAAAUGAGGAACAUAUGGCCUUCGAAAGACAACUGCACCAAGCAUGUGCAAACUUUGCACAACAGCCCAAGCUUGUGCAAAAUUCGCACAACACCUUUCCCUUGUGCGAAAUUCGCACCAGCCCAUGCAUGGUGCGAAAUCUCCUCUGUUCUGCUGACUCCACACGAGAUCUUUUCUUUUAGAUAUUUUUGUAUAAAUUUCCAUUCUUCUCCUUGUAAUCCACCAACCAUAAGAUUUCUUAGCUAGGAAGGUUGGAAAAACUUCUCUAUAUAUAUUCCCUUGCAUCCAUUGUAAUAGAUAUAGAAGUAUGUAAUAUAGAUAUAUAAAUAUAAAGAAUAUACAGAGCCUUGCUCUGUUUUUCCUUCUCUUUUAUUUUUCUUUUUCUUGAAAGCCAAACAACCUCUGAGGAUGUUUUCCCAGAGGAUGAGAGGCUAAACUUUUGGUUUCUUGGAGUGAAGGAAGCUAGGUGAAAAGUCCAGAUGCAAAGGUGAAAACUCUCGUGCAUUAAAUACAGGUAGUUGGAGUUCAUAAAUGGCUUUUAAAUCUAAAGUUUUGCUUUAAAUCCCUUAGAAUAACUUUGAAUGGCCAAUACAUGGUAAGCUUUAGGUCUUUGUGGAUACUUAUUACUAGAUCCACACCAGUCCAUUAGUUAUCAUGUACGAGCCAUUGGAAAGUGGCUCAAGGUGAAGACCCAUAGUGUCUAAAGCCAUUAAUGGAACCUGACUACCAUUUCUAUUGACUUUUUAUGGAUUAAAUCUUCAUGGUUAAACCUAUACCGGUUCGGGAAACAACCAUCUUUUAUGUUGUUGUCCCCAAUGCGAGAAGAAGAAUCCGAAAUUUCCACUUUGCAUUCUGAACUUGAUCCUAGCAACCUUAGCUCCGGGAGACUUUCUUUCUUCCAUUUUUACCUAGUUUUAUGUUAGUUUAGUUUAAAACACCACUUUCAAAACAAAUAUUAUUUUCUUUUAAACUUAAAGUUUUUGACAAAGGAAAUCAUCAGAUUCAAUCUCUAAUCUUGAGUCUAUCACUGGUAGAGUGAAAACCCAUCCCAGAGUUCGACCCUAGAGCUGCUAUACUAUAGUAGCUUUGCUACGCUAGUAUGAGGUCAUAGGAUUUAUAAAUUUUUUUUAUUAAAAGACCCGACUGGGCACGAAUCAAAAUGGUGUCGUUGCCGGGGAUGGUGCCACUUUACAGUGAUAUGACCUUUUCAGAGUACUUGUGAUCUUCAUCACAAGUUUGGUGACUUUUCUUUUCCUUUUACUAACUUUUUUUAUUUGUUUAUUUUCCUUUGUUCAUGUUUUAGUAUAUCUUUUAUUUAGUUUUUAGUUAAUCUUAACAAUUUUCUUUAGAAUUUUAUUUUCUUUUAUUUUCUUUUGUUUUCUCUGUUUUUAAUUCACAAAUUGCUAGUUGUGCAUGCCAUUUCUAAAACACUAGUGCAAGCUAUGUUGUGUUCCAUUUGUCAAUCUUUUGAGCACUUGGUGGAGGAGUGUCCUAUCCUUCCAGCAGCGAGGGAGAUGUUUGGUAUGCCAUGUAGCAUUUGUCAGUCUUUUGAGCACCUGGUAGAGGAGUGUCCUAUCAUUCCAGUGGUGAGAGAGAUAUUUGGUGAUUAUAACACCUACAAUUCAAAUUGUAGGAAUCAUCCAAAUUUCUUUUGGGAACCACAACCACGUCAGUACAUGCAACCCACUCAAGCACCACAGCAAGCCUCAAACCUUGAACAAGCUAUGAUGAAUCUUAACAAGGUCAUGGAAGACUUUGUUGAAGCUCAGAAAUCCAUCAAUGCUCAGCUCAGUCAAAGAAUAUCACUCCCUGAUAGAGUAGAGAGUUCAUUGAAUAAAAAGAUGGAUGGAGUGCAACAUGAUCUAUCUCAAAAGAUAGAUAAUCUCCAAGAUUCAAUCUCAAGGUUUGCCAACCUCAACACAAUGCAAGAAAAAGAAAACUCUCCUUCUCAACCUUAUCAAAAUUCCAAGGGUAUCCAUGAAGUGGAGGCUCAAAAGGGAGAAUCUUCAAUGGUGAAGGAAGUUAAAAUGGUUAUCACUUUGAGUGCUAAAGAGGUUGAUUUGGCCACAUCCAAACAAGAGCAUGAAAUAGAGAAUGAAAUAGAGAAAAAGAAGAGGGAGGAAAUUAAAGGAAAGAGAAAGGGAAUUGUUUCCAUUGCCAUCAUACAAUGCAAAUCUCUAAUGAAGGAUGCAAACUUCAUAUGGGAUCCGGGCAAGCUGAACCAGGAUCAAAUUUUUUUAUGGACUUAGUUUUUUUAAAGACUAGCUAGUCCAUAUCUUUUUGUUUUAUUUUUAAAUUUGUUUUGAUUUUGAUUUCUUGCUUUAAUUUUAUUUUGGUUUGAUUUAACUUGUUUUUUUUUUAUGAUCAACAUAGGGGAAGCCAAAAAUAGAGGAAAAUAGAGCAAUUUGCACCACCCAAUUCUCUGGUGCGAAAUUCGCACCACCCUACCCCCUUGUGCGAAAUUGCCUUUGUGAGCGUUUUCCAAAAAGCAUGCUCUCAGUCCCUACCCAAAAUCUCAGUGCAAAAAUCACAGGAAUGCGAACAUUGUGUGAAAUUCCCACCGCCAUCUCCACAUGUGCGAAAUUCGCACAACACUACUCCACCUGUGCAAAAUUCGUACCACCCCAUUUCGGCAACUGUUGGGCACAUUUAGAUCACUUCCCAAAUUUCAUUUCAUGCGUACUAUAUCUCGUUUCAAAGCUUGGGAAGUCAGGAGUCCAUAGCUUCAAACGGUGCUCGAUUUGGAGUUGAAACGAAGAAGUUAUGGCCAUUUGAAGACGACUGUGCAAAGCUGAACGGAAAUGUUGCAGCCGCACCCCAUUUCGCUACUGUUGGACACGUUUUUUGGAGCACUUUCUGGAGAUAAAAUUAUGCAUACCAUAUGUCGUUUUUAAGCUUAGGAAGUCAGGAGUCCAGUGCUUCAAACGGUGUGCGAUUUAGAUUUGAAACGAAGAAGUUAUGGCCAUUUGAAACCACCACAAUUUCGCAUUUGGACGGGUGAAUAGUGCCUUGUGCGAAAUUCGCACAACCCAUUCCCUUGUGCUAAUUUUUGAGAUUCUUCAUCCCUACCCUUCCCAAUCCCAAGCCUUUGAGCCUCAUUUCUUUGCUCCAUUAUGCCUAAGACCCGAGGAGGCUAUGCCUCAGCUCCCCAGAGGCAGCAUCGUCUGAUGCCCCACCUACUGUCCCUCCUUACCAACAGAGCCCCGCGCACCCUGGGAUCACACACAUGAAGCCUCUUACUCCAUUUCUGACCUCCUUAAACCAUCAAAGCCCAUAGCUCCAGCUGAGAGCUCCAGUUGAGGAGACUAUGCCAUCCAAGGAGAAUAUCAAAACAGAGGCCAAAGUCCUGAUCCAACCCACUCAGAAGGCCACCACAGAUGCAUCAGCUCCAUAGGACCUUACCAUUAUUUGAUCAUCUCUUUACUUUUUGUCUUUACAUAUUAUAUUAGUAUAUAUAAUUCCAUGUUUUGAUGUUUUAUAUUCUGGGAUUGGAUGUAUUGCAUGAUCAUAUAUUAUAUUCUAUUUUCUCAGAUUAAUAUAUAGGCAUCAUUUUUGUUUAAACUUGACAUUUUUCUAUUUUCUCUACUCACUAUUUUUUUUUAAACAUGUGGUUUCUCUUAUACAACUCAGACUCCAUGUCACUCAAGAGGUACCACUUCCUCCCUAUUUUUUAAUCGCUUUGUCACAUUGAGGACAAUGUUUAGCUUGGUUGGGGGGAGAGUUGAGGAAGGAAGUUUUUGUUAUUAAUGCUAAGUUAUUUUGGUAAUUUAGUUGCUUUUUGCUUAAUUUUAAAAAAUUUUUAAAGUUUUUUUUGAAUACUCUCCAUGGUUAUUAAGGAAAAAAUUUCAAAAUGAAAUGGGAGAAAUUAAAUUUUUGUCUUUUUACUUGAAACUUAGAGUUUGUAUUAUGUUUAUUAAAGUUGAUGAAUUAUUGAACUCCUAUUGAUUUCAACCUUAUUUCUUCCACUUUAAGCUUAUCACACACCAUGCACACUAGGUUCCGUUUAUAAGAUGAAAAACUAUUUUACCCCUUGACUUAGGAAAAUUUAGACUUGGUACCUUUGACCUCAUUUUAAUAGUGUUGAGACACCUUAUAAAAGGCCAAUGAGCCUUUGGAAAAAGAAAGAAAAAGAAAAAUGUUUUACUUGCCUUGAAACCCGAGCAAGGUCUGAGGGGUAUAUGGUGAAAAUCUUUAAAACCUGGUGCCCUAAGCCUUCAAUGGUUGGGAGUCACCGACCUCAAUGCUCGUUACAUGGGUGAAUAGGUGGAGUUUAACAUAUUGUAGGUGCUUGGGUAUUAAAAAUUCAUUCUCAAAAGUCCGAGGUGAAAUCCGAGGAGUUAGUGGUUGAAAAAUCCUUAAAGCUUGAUGCCCUAAACCUUGAUUGGUUGGGAGUCAUCGAUGGACCCCCGUUACAUGGACAAUUUAGAAAAGAAUGCCUUUAAGCUUUGCACUCCUACAGGAAAAAAAUUGUGAAAGAAAAGAGGUGUGUUCUUAGCCUAUUGGAGGUUGAUUAGUUUGCUAAGCUUUGAAAAGAACUAGGUUGAGGGGAGAGAUUAGUUUGACAUACUAUAUCCGGAAACUAAUAAAUAACACAUAGAUUUUUGUGGAAGAGUAGGGUUGGACCUUUAGGAGUGGAAAUUAUUUUGAAGCUUAAAUUUGCAUAAUGCCUACUCUUUAUGAAUUGUGACUAGGCAAAUUAUUUGAUAGCUCCUAUUGAAGUUUGAGUUUUAUUUCUUUCAUGUUCCAUGUGAGAGUUUGAUCCAAUCAUGCCACUUGAUUAUUUUUUGGAGUGAUCAACAUGAUUUUAUAAAUUAUUAUAUUAUCUAUUUUUCUUUCUUUCUUUUUCUCUCCUUCAUUGCUUAGGGACUAGCAAUGUGUCAGUUGGGGGGAGUGAUUACUACCCAAAAAGUGCUAUUUUGCGCCUUUAAUUCAUUAUGUUUUAAGCACUUUUGUGUAGUAGUUCUCCAUUUUUAUUCCAAUUGGCAUGUUAAGGACCUAGCAAUGACUUCUAAUCAUAUUUGUGGCUAGUUUUAGUGUUUUGACAGCUUUUUGGAUCAUUAAGACAAGCCAAGUAAAGGAGAGAAGCAAAGAGGAAAACAGAGUGGAGAAAACAGAGGAUAGCAGCUGCAGUCUUCCUUCGCACUUUUGGAGCACUUCUUGAAGUCUAUUUGCUACAUGCUAUAUACCAUUUCAAAGCUCAGGAAGUCAAGAAUCCAACUCUUCAAACCGUGUACGAUUUGGAGCUGAAAUGAGGAAGAUAUGGCCUUCGGAAGACAACUGCACCAAGCAUGUGCGAAUUUCGCACAACAGCCCAAGCUUGUGCGAAAUUCGUACAACACCUUCCCCUUGUGCAAAAUUCGCACCAGCCCAUGCGUGGUGCGAAAUCUCCUCUAUUCUGCCGACUCCACGUGAGAUCUUUUCUUUUAGAUAUUUUUGUAUAAAUUUCCAUUCUUCUCCUUGUAAUCCACCAACCAUAAGAUUUCUUAGCUAGGAAGGUUGGAAAAACUUCUCUAUAUAUAUUCCCUUGCAUCCAUUGUAAUAGAUAUAGAAGUAUGUAAUAUAGAUAUAUAAAUAUAUAGAAUAUACAGAGCCUUGCUUUUUUUUUCCUUCUCUUUUAUUUUUCUUUUUCUUGAAAGCCAAACAACCUCUGAGGAUGUUCUCCUAGAGGAUGAGAGGCUAAACUUUUGGUUUCUUGGAGUGAAGGAAGCUAGGUGAAAAGUCCAGAUGCAAAGGUGGAAAACUCUCGUGCAUUAAAUACAGGUAGUUGGAGUUCAUAAAUGGCUUUUAAAUCUAAAGUUUUGCUUUAAAUCCCUUAGAAUCACUUUGAAUGGCCAAUACAUGAUAAGCUUCAGGUCUCUGUGGAUACUUAUUGCUAGAUCCACAUCAGUCCAUUAGUUAUCAUGUACAAGCCAUUGGAAAGUGGCUCAAGGUGAAGACCCAUAGUGUCUAAAGCCAUUAAUGGAACAUGACUACCAUUUCUAUUGACUUUUUAUGGAUUAAAUCUUCAUUGUUAAACCUAUACCGGUUCGGGAAACAACCAUCUUUUAUGUUGUUGUCCCCAAUGCGAGAAGAAGAAUCCGAAAUUUCCACUUUGCAUUCUGAACUUGAUCCUAGCAACCUUAGCUUCGGGAGACUUUCUUUCUUCCAUUUUUACCUAGUUUUAUGUUAGUUUAUUUUCAAACACCACUUUGAAAACAAAUAUUAUUUUCUUUUAAACUUAAAGUUUUUGACAAAGGAAAUCAUCAGAUUCAAUCUCUAAUCUUGAGUCUAUCACUGGUAGAGUGAAAACCCAUCCUAGAGUUCGACCCUAGAGCUGCUAUACUAUAGUAGCUUUGCUACGCUAGUAUGAGGUCAUAGGAUUUAUAAAUGUUUUUUAUGAAAAGACCCGACUGGGCACGAAUCAGCUACUAUAGCAUUGUGGCUCUAGGAUCGUUCAUUGGGAUGGGUUUUCACUUCACAAUUGAUAUUAAUUCAAAACUGAAUUAGUGCCUUUUCAUUUCAAGGUUAGCUUUAAAAGAAAACAUAAAGAUUUUUGAAACUAAACUAACAUAGAACUAGGUAAAAAUGGAAGAAAGAAAGUCUCCCGGAGCUAAAGGUUGCUAGGAUCAAGUUCAGAAUGCAAAGUGGGAAAUUCCGGAUUGUUCUCCUCGCAUUGGGGACAACAACAUAAAGGAUGGUUGUUUCCCGAACCGGUAGAGGUUUAACAAUGAAGAUUUAAUCCAUAAAAAGUCAAUAGAAAUUAGUCAAGUUCCAUUAAUGGCUUUAGACAUUAUGGGUCUUCACCUUGAGUCACUUUCCAAUGGCUCGUAUAUGAUAACUAAUGAUCUGAUGUGGAUCUAGCAAUAAGUAUCCCCAUAGACCUAAAAGCUUACCAUUUAUUGGCCAUUCAAAGUGAUUCUAAGGGGUUUAAAGCAAAACUUUAGAUUUAAAAGCCAUUUAUAAACUCCAACUACCUGUAUUUAAAGCACGAGAAUUUUCCACUUUUUCAUCCGGACUUUUCACCUAGCUUCCCUUAGUCCAAGAAACCAAAGGUUUAGCCUCUCAUCCUCUGGGAAAACAUCCUUAGAGGUUGUUUGGCUAGUAAGAAAAUAUAAUCAAAAUGAGAAGGUAAAAGCAAAGCAAAGCUCUGUAUUUUUCUUCCUUUCAAAAUUGUACAAAGGAUUGAUCGAUAAUAUAUUCGAUAUCUUGUGUAAAGGAAAUUACAAACUAUAUAUAAGGGUUUAUUCACCCUUUUUCCAAACUUAAUAACUAAGGAAUCCUAUCAUUGGUGGGUUACAAGGAGACUUUGGGAAUUUAGACAUAAAAUGUCUAAAGCAAAAUAUCUUAAAAUAUCCCAAAAUAUUGGUGGCAAAUAUCAGGAAGCUUCAGGAGAACACAGCAGCACUGUGCAGAAUGGUUGCUCUCCCAUCCGGGUAGGCGGUUAUCAAAUGAUCCGGAUACGUCCAUCUGGAAAAGUUGAAACACCUACAUCUCCUAUCCGGCUCCUGAAUUCCAGAAGUGAACAUUCGGGGUGGAAAGUGCGCGGCAACCGGAUGCAAUGGCAGCAGCCGGGUGCAAACGGCGGCGCACAUCCGGGUGCAAAUGGUGGCGCACAUCCGGGUGCAACUCCUAUCUGGUGGUGUGGUCCGGACGCCCUCCAAUGGUGUAUCCGGACGCUCUGUCCAGGUAUACUCCUUGCAUGGAUUCCAAAGAAGUCUCCUCAAUCUCAUAUUGCUUUGGUGAUAAAAAAGCUAUCAAAACACCAAAACUUAACACAUUUUUUAUUAGAAUUGAUUGCAAGGGUCCUUAACAUGCCAAUUGAGUUAAAAGGUGAUAACUACUACUCAAAAGUGUUUAAAAGAGUUAAUUACCAGCUAUGAAAUAACACUUUUUGAUCCUAGUUCAGCUGGCCCGGAUCCCAUAUGAAGUUUGCAUCCCUCACUUGAGAUUUGCUUUGUAUGAUUUUGCCAUACAAAGCUUGGGGGAAAAGUGGAUGCAUGUGUUUCUUCCUUGAUGACUAUCCUUUUUGGUUUUUCUUUUAUACAAUCAUCUUUCUCUGUACUUUUCCCCUUUCUCUUUCCUUUUAUUUUCUCCCUCUUUUCUUUCUCUGUUUCACUCUCUUCUUUGUGGUCUAGCUUGCAUGCGGGUAGAUCAACCUCUUUAUCACUCUCCUUAGCCUCUAUUUCAAGGAUACCCUUUUGAUUUUGAUGAGGUUGAGAAGGAAAGUUUUCUUUCUCUUGCAUUGCGUUGAGGUUGGCAAACCUUGAGCUUGAGUAUUCGAAAUUGUCUGUCUUCUGAGACAGGUCAUUGAACCUCUCAUCCAUCCUAUCAAUUCUUUGACUGAGCUGAGCAUUGAUGGAUUUUUUAGCUUCAACAAAGUCUUCCAUGACCUUGUUAAGAUUCAUCAUAGCUUGUUCAAGGUUUGAGGCUUGCUGUGGUGCUUGAGCAGGUUGCUGAUACUGAGGUGGUUGUGGUUUCCAAGAGAAAUUUGGAUGAUUCCUACAAUUUGAAUUGUAGGUGUUAUAAUCACCAAAUAUCUCUUUCGCCACUGGAAUGAUAAGACACUCCUCCACCAAGUGCUCAAAAGAUUGACAAAUGGCACACGACAUAGCUUGCACUAGUGUUUUAGAAAUGGCAUGCACAACUAGCAAUUUGUGAAUUAAAAACAGAGAAAACAAAAGAAAAUAAAAGAAAAUAAAAUUCUAAAGAAAAUUAUUAAGAUUAACUAAAAACUAAAUAAAAAAUAUACUAAAACAUGAAUAAAGAAAAAUAAAAUAAAAAGAGUUAGUAAAAGGAAAAGAAAAUUCACCAAACUUGUGAUGAAGAUCACAAGUACUCUGAAAAGGUCAUAUCACUGUAAAGUGGCACCAUCCCCGGCAGCGGCGCCAUUUGAUUCAUGCCCAAUCGGUGUCUCAGCUAAUUCGUGUCCAGCUGGUAUCCUUGAUUGCGGGAGUAAUCAACAAAAUUUAUAACCUAUAACACCAUGAACUAGGGUAGCAAAGACAAAGCUACUAUAGCAUAGUGGCUCUAGGAUCGUUCACUGAGAUGGGUUUUCACUUCACAAUUGAUAUUAAUUCAAAGCUGAAUUGGUGCCUUUUCAUUUCAAGGUCAAGUUUAAAAGAAAACAUAAAGAUGUUUGAAACUAAACUAACAUAGAACUAGGUAAAAAUGGAAGAAAGAAAGUCUCCCGGAGCUAAAGGUUGCUAGGAUCAAGUUCAGAAUGCAAAGUGGGAAAUUCCGGAUUGUUCUCCUCGCAUUGGGGACAACAACAUAAAGGAUGGUUGUUUCCCGAACCGGUAUAGGUUUAACAAUGAAGAUUUAAUCCAUAAAAAGUCAAUAGAAAUUAGUCAAGUUCCAUUAAUGGCUUUAAACACUAUGGGUCUUCACCUUGAGUCACUUUCCAAUGGCUCGUAUAUGAUAACUAAUGAUCUGAUGUGGAUCUAGCAAUAAGUAUCCCCAGAGACCUAAAAGCUUGCCAUGUAUUGGCCAUUCAAAGUGAUUCUAAGGGGUUUAAAGCAAAAAUUUAGAUUUAAAAGCCAUUUAUAAACUCCAACUACCUGUAUUUAAAGCACGAGAAUUUUCCACUUUUUCAUCCGAACUUUUCACCUAGCUUCCCUUAGUCUAAGAAACCAAAGGUUUAGCCUCUCAUCCUCUGGGAAAACAUCCUCAGAGGUUGUUUGGCUAGUAAGAAAAUAUAAUCAAAAUGAGAAGGUAAAAGCAGAGCAAAGCUCUGUAUUUUUCUUCCUUUCAAAACUGUACAAAGGAUUGGUCGAUAAUAUAUUCGAUAUCUUGUGUAAAGGAAAUUACAAACUAUAUAUAAGGGUUUAUUCACCCUUUUUCCAAACUUAAUAACUAAGAAAUCCUAUCAUUGGUGGGUUACAAGGAGACUUUGGGAAUUUAGACAUAAAAUGUCUAAAGUAAAAUAUCUCAAAAUAUCCCAAAAUAUCGGUGGCAAAUAUCAGGAAGCUUCAGGAGAACACAGCAGCACUGUGCAGAAUGGCUGCUCUCCCAUCCAGGUAGGCGGAUAUCAGAUGAUCCGGAUACGUCCAUCUGGAAAAGUUGAAACACCUACAUCUCCCAUCCGGCUCCUGAAUUCCAGACGUGAACAUCCGGGGUGGAAAGUGCAUGGCAGCCGGAUGCAAUGGCAGCAGCCGGGUGCAAACGGCGGCGCACAUCCGGGUGCAACUCCUAUCUGGUGGUGUGGUCCGGACGCCCUCCGAUGGUGUAUCCGGACGCUCUAUCCGGGUAUACUCCUUGCAUGGAUUCCAAAAAACUCUCCUCAAUCUCAUAUUGCUUUGGUGAUAAAAAAGCUAUCAAAACACCAAAACUUAACACAUUUUUUAUUAGAAUUGAUUGCAAUGGUCCUUAACAUGCCAAUUGAGUUAAAAGGUGAUAACUACUACUCAAAAGUGUUUAAAAGAGUUAAUUACCAGCUAUGAAAUAACACUUUUUGAGUAGUUAUCAAUUGUCCACAAUGAUGGGUUUUCGUUAUACACUUGACAUUAAUGAAAUGAGAAAUGGUGAUUUCCUUUUUGAAAGUUAGUUUUUAAUGAAAAUAAUAUUGAUUGGAAGGGUUGAUUUUAAGUUAAGCAAACAUAAACAACUGAAAUUACUACAAAGAGAAAGUCUCUUGGAGCUAUAGGUUACUAGGAUCAUGUUCCUAUUGCAAAGUGGGAAAUUCCGGAUCUUCUCCUCGCAUUGGGGACAAUAACAUAAAGGAUGGUUAUCUCCCAAACCGGAUUUGUAUUUAGCAAAUAAGUUUUGAUCCAAAGGGUUCUUGAAAAAUGGUAGUUGCUUCCCAUUAAUGGCUUCAAACACUAAAGACCCUCACCUUGAACCACCUUCCAAUGGCUCGUACUUGAUAACUAAUGGACAUUCAUGGAUCUAGCAAUAAGCAUCCAUAGAAUCCUAAAAGCUUACCAAGUAUUGGCCAUUCAAGGUGAUUCUAAGGGAUUAAAGCUGAAACUUGAAAUACAAACCAUUAAUGUUACACAACUACCUUCAUUUAAAGCAAGGAAAACUCCCACAUUUGCAUCUGGGUCCUUUACCUAGCUCCCAUCACUCCAAGAAACGUGAAACUUAGCCACUCAUCCUCUGAGAAAUCAUCCUCAAAGGGUGUUUGGCUAGAGAGAAUAUGAAGAGAAAAUGAGAAGGAAAGGUAGAGAAAAACUCCCGUAUAUUUUCUUCAAAACCCGACUUUACAAAAUAUAAAAAACAUCAAGCAUCCUUUGAGAGGUUUUCCAACCCUUAUUUAUAGUUCGUAAACAAACCCUAAUGUCAUUUAUCUAUUACAAAGGAGUAAAAAGGAAAAAUUACAAUUCUGGAGAAAAAUCCCAAAAGUUGGUGCGCACAAAGUGAUUUUGGCACACCCUACCAAAUUUUGGCACAUCCUGCCAAAUUUUGGCACAUCCUGCCAAAUUGAUGAUUUUGCCUUGCAAAAUGCUCUGUUUUCCUCCAUCUUACUACUGAUAGUUUUGGCAAGAAUAGAGAAGUCAAGUAAUGGGUACAUUUCCUCAAUCAAUAGAAGCAAGACACACUAUAACUCAUAUGGCAUAAACUUCAUUCAAACCAAGUUUUCCAAACUCAAAUUUCAAAAUUUUGAAGGUGAGAAUUGGGAAUUAGGAAAAAGUAGGUGUGGACCCCGCAUUUCGCUUUGCUCGAAUGCGUUUCCCACUCGAAUGGCGAGCUCGAUUUUUAUUUUUUUUGAAAAUGAUUUUUAUUCAUUAAAAAUUGACUUGGAGUCGCCACUUAUUUUUGUUUUAUUUUUAAAGGGUAAACAAAAUAAGAAAGAAAAACCCUAAGUGUGACUCCUUAUUUUGGAAAAGGCGGUCUGUGAAAAACCGGAUCGGGUUCGGGGGUCAGGUUACUUAUCGGGAAGGUACGGUAAAGACCGUAGCACCCCUCUAAGUCCCUAAAGUCGGGUCUCUACUAAUAAGAUGAAACUGACAUGGCAAUCAAUGAGAAUCGAUGAAUAGUCAAAUCAAUCAUGCACAAUAUGAGAAGCGAAGCAUGUAUAAAGAAUGAGCGAAAUAUGAAUAGAUGCGUACCUGGAUGGCAAUCACGAAUGUGCUAUCAUGAAACAUGGUUAGUGAACAAUGAACAAAUAUAGUUAAGCGCAUAUCAAGGAAUAGAGUAAAUCAAUCAUGCAUGACAAAUAAAUAAAUCAAUCAGUCAAUCCAUCAUGAAGUCUCAUAUGUAGGGCCCCCACCAAAGCCCAAUUCAUUUUUGCAUGAAUUAAUACCAUAAAUUCCCUUGCUUGGAAUUACGGAAUUUUAUUCUAGCUUAUUUUAAAACAUUUUGAAAAUUUGAGGAGUUGUGAAAAUUGCUUAUCAGAAGAAAAAGUGGAGGCAAAAAUUUAUUAAAAAUAGGAUUUUUGUGUAACCUAGGGAAAAUGCUAAGGAUGAAAAGUUGGAAUAUUUGAAGUUAUUUAAUCGACCAAAACUUGGAAAACUACUUUGAAAACAGAGGUUUGAGGAAUUAUUUUAAAAUAAAAUAUGAUGAAAUAACAAAAAAAAAAUAAAAAAAUGGCACGUGGUCUAAUUGCCUGCUUUUUUAUUUCAUAAUAGUGACUCCAAACCCCACGCCUCUCAAGCUCACAAACUUGUCAUCUUCUCAAUCAGCAAAUGGCCUGUCUGCCAAGGCUGGCAUGUCACAAACGAUGCGUCCUGCAGCCAACAGUGUUUCAAGAACAGCAGCUUAGUGAUCAACAUGGAAAAUCUGACACGGCUCCCAGGUCAAAUUUGGUUUAGAACGAGUCCUCAAGCUGUUUCUCCCUGCAAUACUGGACCAUAAAUUUGUGACGAGAGUCCUGAAGUGACCUUUCCCAGCAAUAUGUUCCCAAAAGUGAGGGUUACUCUCCACAUGUUUAUCAGGACUCGAAACAUCCACACUACUGGUGCUCAUGUCGUUACGUACAAUGCACAGCUUUCCAUUAAGGGGGACAAGAGCAGCAGCCUCUAGAACUCGGGAGCUCCCCAGAUGGAGCUUGCUAUCUAUGAAUUUGUUCCAUGAAUCUGUGUCACUGUCAUAGACCCUGAGCUUGCACCCACCCUGGCAGUCCAAGGCGUAGAGCUGUCCAUUCAAAGAGAUGCUAGGGUUGCGCCAACCAGCAACCAUUCCAUCACUGAUUGGGGUCCAAGUAUUGGUUUCAGGAAUAUAAGCUUCACUCAUGACCUCACGGUGGGAUCCAAGUCCUUUUAGGAACCAUUUUCCAUUUAUAGAUUACUCCGAUAAAGGGCACCAUAGCCGAGCUCAUAUCUGAAAUAAAGCUCCACCUAUUCCUGUUAGGAUCAUAGACUUCAGCUGAACGGAGAGUCUUCUGAAUUCCUUCACAUUCGGAGCAUGCCAACUAAGGAGUUGAACGAAGUGGGCCCACAAUUCUUUAUCAAAACGAGGCUCAACAGUUUCUUUAUUGUUGGAAUCCUUGAGCCGACUAGGAUCCUCAUUGCAUACCUUCAGGUUCUGACGCCUUUCCAAGCAACCAUGCAUAUUUACUUCGAUCACACUGGUGAAUAGAAAGAGUUAUCUUCGUGUAAGCAUGCUAAAAAAACAUCGGUGUGCACUGUCGAAUGCUUCGAGCAUUGAGCUAUAUGUUUACAAAUCUGACAUGAGGGAAAUACUGCCACCAUCCAUGCAUAUACUAGAAGCAAAAAGUAGCAUCAUCGGAGACUAUAGAUAGACACUUGGCGGCCAAAUCUGGAGGGCAGUCUGAAUAUGAAGCAUGUAGUCCCCAAAUGAGCUUUUCGAGCUCCUCAUACCAUGAAGAAGAAUUUUUAGAAGGUGGUGAAGGGAAGGAUAAUGGAUAUGAGAAGGUCUUAGAGUGAGAAAAUGGGUUUGACGGAUGUUUUGAUGGGUAAUGAAGGCUGCCAUGCAUAUGAGAGAGUAUGAGACACGGGCAUGAAACAAUGGAUUUGAUGGAUAUGGGAUGCAUGCAUGAGGUGGAUGACAGAGGAUGAGAUGGACGGGUUUGAUGGGUACGUAGAAAUAAAAUAAUGGGUAUGAAAGGGUAGAGAGAGAAAAGAUGAUAGGAAAUGGGUGUGAAGAGUGGAAUAGAGAGAGAAAGUGAGGUGGUGAGAAAAAUGUAAGGGUGUAGGGAUAUGGGUCUAGAUAUGAGUGUAGGGAGAUGGUUUGUGGGUAUGAAAAGAAUGGGUACGAAGGACGGGUAUAGUGGGGUGUGGUUCAAUGAUGUUGUGCAUGGGCUUGUGCUCAGUUUCGCUACCGAUCCUGGAUUCAUCCCAUUGUUGAAGCAUGAAAUUAGUGGAGUAGCGUAGUGGCUGCGUCUUAGCAAGAUGCUUCACGGUGUCUUCUCCAGCUGUAGCCAAAACGCGUCAGCUGCUUCCACCCAAAACCUGAUAUGCUGAGAAGUUUCUGUCUAUUAUUGGAUUCGGUAUCUGAUUCGUCAAUCGUUGUGAUCUUCUCUUCUUCAAACUUGAUGCAUGGAUGCCAAAUUGCUCCAACAUUCUUUGAUAUACAUAUAGUUGGUAUCAGCCUUUGUCCUACUGUUGGGAGCAAGGACAUGAACCCUAGCAGCAUUAACUCUAACUUGACCUUUUCCAGCGCUUCAUAUAGAGCUCUCCUGUGUAACCUCAGAUUGCAAGGUAACCUCAGAGUUUUGUACAUCACAACCAGGAAUUCCAGCAGCGGAAUUAUUGCCAUAGCCUCUGACACUGACAUCAAAUUCCUGUCUCAUAUUCCACAAAUACUAAGACAAAGCUUUCAAAGAAUCCGGAAUCAUUGGUGGCUGUAGUUGCUCCAAAGUAACAUCAUUUGGAAGCAAAGAAGCACCAUUGAGAGAAUCAGAUUGAUUAAUUGUAACAGCUUGGUUAAGUUGUUGUUCGCUAGAGUCUCUCAAACCACUUAAACCAUAAGUUCCUAUGCCUUUCUCUGAGACAGGAUCCCAAAUUUUUGAGGAGGAUUUAUCUUCAUGUGAAGAAGAAACAGGGCAUGUAGCAUCAGUGAAGUCCCUAAACCAUACAAGCCCAUCCUCUGUACCACAGCUAGUAGUGAUAACUCUUUGCAUCGUCCUCAAAUCAAUUGUGGAAACAGAGGAACCAGCAGCAACAAAAAACAAUGAUUCAUAACAUCUCAUGUCCAUAGGUGCAUCAAGAACAGAAGUCAUUCCCACACAACAUAAAGAAUGGACAGUAGAUGAUGUAGUUGUAUUCCAAACUCUCACCUUAGAAUCUUUCGAAAUUGUCACUCGAAGAGAAGUUUUAUGCCCAGUAACUGUCAUCAAUUUUACAGGUUUCGCAUGCCCAUAAAGAGUUGCCUUUAAAGCCUGAUAGCCACGUUAACCACUUGAGCUAAGGAACCAAAGUCAAACUGUACCAUCUUAUCCUCCACUUGCAAAUACUUUGCCACUACCAUCACCCAGCAAUUUAUCUCAAAGAGUGGAAACUGGGCCAUUAUGAUUUCUAAAACACCGCUGGCAAGAACCCUUCCACCAUAGACGAAUGGAGUGGUCACAGCUUGAGAUUACCGAAACAUUUUCUUCUCGUUGUGUCUCACUUCGAAAUAAAGAUGUUUCACUAAGCGGAAAUAAUCUGCUAAAUGAUCAAUUCCAUAUUCUUUGUCAUUCACAUCAUGGGAAGCCCAGAAACGAAUUAUUAAUUACUUCUGGUCCAAAUUGGGAGACGAAUUCAGGCAGCCCUAGCAGGAGCCCACGACUUUCAGACAAGCUGAUGGUAUCUUCUGGGGUCACUCUAUCAGCACAUGGAACCUUCUUAGUCAAGGAUGCUACUGCUACUGCCAAUUUGGCUCCGCUUCUUGGCCGUGGCUAUGGACCUUUGGCUGAACUUCAAAACGUCAUUGACAAGACUGAAGCUGCCGAAUCACUUAGAUGUUCUCGUGAUCAAUUCUCCUCUUAGAUGUCAACCAAACUUUGAGAAUAUGUAUCCCUUGUAAGGAUUCACAACUAGCCUUGAUUUCUCUCUCUCUCACAGCCAAUGUAUUGAACGAGAUCCCAAAAGCAAAAGGCAAUCACCACAGAGAAAGAAACAAUAGAAACAGAGCAUAAAAAAAACAAAGUAAAAACAUCCUCAAAUGAGGCUUCACUGCAUGAGUCAUCAGCAAGCCCUCUGAUUAAGUGAGAAAAACCACAUCAAAUAUGACUAUUGGCAUGAUUCCUAGGUAUUUCGCAAUAGAGGCAAGGUGCAUUAAGAUCAACAAUGGCAAACAUGAGUUCAAGAUUAUAUAUCAACAAGCAACAAGUGGCCUUCAUCAUCCACUCCAAGCAAACCAACAAAUAUCCAGAUAUUAACAAGAAAUGCAGAGGAGUAAUAAGAAUCCAAACCAAACAAGAAAUCAGCUGCAUUCAUACCUGAGAGAACCCUUUUCCGGUAAGGCUCUGUUCAGCUCUAAACGCCUUAAGUCCUCCUCCAAUGCCGAUGAAACCAGCAAGCUUACCUCCCUAUCACUCUCUCACCAGCAGCCUCUAAAUCAACUCUCAGCAGUCUUCUCCCUCUGGUUUUCUCUCUGAGCUCCUCUCAAUCUCUAGCUAAGCAAUCCCUCAAAAAUAUCUCUCUCUAAGCUCUCCAAAAACUCACCUCUCUGCUCCAACCUCAAACCUCCCUCCUACAGUAAUAAAAAACUCCCCUCCCUAGCUUACCUUCCUUCCUCUCUGGUUCUCUCCCUCUCAAGUUCCCCUUCUCUCAAGAAAACUCUCACAGUAGUCUAUCCGCCCUCCCCUCCAGUUGCUCUCUCUCCUUUUCUCUGCCGAGAACCCUCCAAAAGCAGCCUGCUGUCCAAAAUAUCUCCUAACCAACUCUGAAAAGCACCACCUGCCAGAGACGCCCCUCUCACAGCAACGUACCUCCUCUGCAUAUCCUCCUCCAGGUGUCAACCUCUGAUUAGUCCAUCAAUUCCACUAUUUUGAUAACCAACUCUGAAAAGCACCACCUGCCAGAGACGCCCCUCUCACAGCAACGUACCUCCUCUGCAUAUCCUCCUCCAGGUGUCAACCUCUGAUUAGUCCAUCAAUUCCACUAUUUUGAUCCCAUAUUGACUAAUCCGGGAGUGACACGUGGCCAUGCAAGAUGGUGACACUUGUCAAGCAUCAGCUGCAAGAAUCACUCCCAAAAUGGGGGUCUACAGUAGGAUUGGCUUCCUUACAUUUAAAAGGAAGGGCCUUAGAAAGGUUUCAAGGGUAUGAGGCUAUUAACAAGGAAAUCAAAUGGACACAAUUUUAUAUAGAUGUUGUUUCUAGGUUUAGCCCUAGUGUUAAUGAUAACCUUAUGGGGUAAACAACCAAAUUGAAAUAGGUUUCUACAGUUAUGGCAUACAAAAAUUAGUUUAAGGUAUUGAUGACCAAAACUAGUGGGUUUUUGAUUCAUGCCCAGUCGGGUGUUUAUCAAAACAUUUAUAAAACCUACAACACCUUAUACUAGGGUAGCAAAGACAAAGCUACUAUAGUAUAGUGGCUCUAUGAUCGUCCACAGGGAUGAGUUUUCUUUGUACACAUGACAUUACUGAAAGGAGAAAUGGUGAUUUCCUUUUGAAAGUUUGUUUUUAAUGAAAAUAAGAUUGAUUGGAAGGGUUGAUUUUAAUUUAAGCAAACAUAAACAACUUAAAUUAUUACAAAGAGAAAGUCUCUUGGAGUUAUAGGUUACUAGGAUCAGGUUCCUGUUGUAAAGUGGGAAAUUCCGAAUCUUCUCCUCGCACUGGGGACAAUAACAUGAAGGAUGGUUAUCUCCCCAACCAAAUUUGUAUUUAGCAAAUAAGUUUUGAUCCAAAGGGUUCUUGAAAAAUGGUAGUUGCUUCCCAUUAAUGGCUUUAAACACUAAAGACCCUCACCUUGAACCACCUUCCAAUGGCUCGUACUUGAUAACUAAUGGACAUCCAUGGAUCUAGCAAUAAGUAUCCAUAGAAUCCUAAAAGCUUACCAAGUAUUGGCCAUUCAAGGUGAUUUUAAGGGAUUAAAGCUGAAACUUGAAAUACAAACCAUUAAUGAUACAUAACUACCUUCAUUUAAAGCAAGGAAAACUCCCACCUUUGCAUCCGAGUCCUUUACCUAGCUUCCAUCACUCCAAGAAACGUGAAACGUAGCCACUCAUCCCCUGAGAAAUCAUCCUCAGAGGAUGUUUGGCUCUAGAGAGAAUGUGAAGAGAAAAUGAGAAGGAAAGGCAAAGAAAAACCAGGCUUUAUAAAAUAUCGAAAACAUAAUAUCUCCUCCUCCUCUGAGAGGUUUUCCAACCCUUAUUUAUAGUUCCUAAACAAACCGUAAUGUCUUUUAUCUAUUAUAAAAGGAGUAAAAAAGAAAAUUUACAAUUCUGUAGAAAAAUCUCGAAGCUCGGUGCGCAUAAAGUGAUUUUCGCACACCCUGCGAAAUUUUGGGACACCUUGCGAAAGUUUGGCACACCCUGCCAAAUUUUGGCACAUCUUGCGAAAUAGAUGAUUUUGCCUUGCGAAAUAGAUGUUUUCCUCCAUCUUACUACUGAUAGUUUUGGCAACCCCUUUCCAAGUUUGGCAAGGGGUUUUGAAGUGCUCCAAAACUCGGAUUCUUCAUGUGAUUGAUCUUCAACUUGCCUUACCAUAGCUUGCACAAAACUCUCCCUCAAUUUUGGCCUGUUUCAAUGAUCAAAAAGCUACCAAAAACACUAAAACUGACCAAAAAUUGGUUAGUAACAUUUGCUAGGUCCUUAACAUGCCAAUUGGGAUAAAAAGGUCUAACUACUACUCAAAAGUGCUUAAUACAAUUAAGUUUAAGCUUAUAAAAAUGCACUUUUUGAGUAGUAAUCAAUCUACAUGCAUUUUUUUAGAUCAAACAAUAACUGCAUGGUUUGUCUCAAGGUUCUCUCGAUAUUAAUACUUAUUAUACCAGUUUAAAAAUUCUUUGGGAUGAACUUAAGAUGUUUGAACCCAUUUCCCGUUUGGCAAUUUGGUGGCAUCAAAAUAUGGAUGGAUUAUCAAUAGCAUAAGUAUGUAAUGCAAUUUUUUAAGGGCUUGAAUGAAUCCUAUGUCGUGAUGAGUGGGUAGAUUUUGAUGUUUGGCCCAUUACCCUCUGUUGCGAAGGUUUUCAAUCUCGUCGUUUAAGAAGAACAAUAAUGCACCAUCGAAUCUAGUUCCCUUGCUCUGUUUGAAUCUUUGGCAUUUAGUGCCUCCUCGUCAUCUCUCUCUGUUGCAAAUUUCUCUUCUUAGGGUAAGCUCAAUCAUGAUCACCCGAUUUGUUCUCAUUGUGGGCUCAUGGGGUAUAUUGUGAAUUGUUGCUACAAGUUACAUGGGUACCCAAUUGGGUAUAAGCCCAAACCCAAGGCCCAAUUGAGCUCUCUUCAGCCCACCAACAAUCCAUUAUCUUUCCUUAAGCCAUCAAAAGACACCCACUUCUCUCAUUUAGCUACAACUGCCAUACCAUCCUCUCCACUUUCUAGUUCUCUCUCAAUAGAUCAAGUUCAAUAGCUCAUAAAGUAGACUUUAUUCACUUUGGAAUAAUCCUUUGUCAUGAUCAAAUCUUAUUAUCCACAUGCCUUGUUUGACUAAGAUCAUUAUAAUUGUUUCCCAAAGUGAGUCAAUGCCAAAUAUUGAAUAAUUGGUUAAGCAUAACUCUUACACACAUUCUAAGAUUUAUGCUCUUAACUUUAUGUGACUUGCUUGCAACAUUUGGAAAUACCCCUAAAGUGGAUACAAAGGUAGCCAUGAAUGAAAAAAAAAAAUCAAUAUUGAUCAAAGUGUACAAUAGCUUUACUUUCAAAAGAAAAAAAAAGUAAAAAAAAAAAAAGAACUAUGAUAUCAAAUUAAGGGGAAGUCAAGUUGUGUUGUAUAUAAAUCAACAAGACCGUGUUAAAUAAAAAUCCAACAAUCUUAGAUCAAAUUAAUUGGAUGUGUACUUUAAUUAGAACAAAGGUAUGAUUGGAACUCUUCUAAGUGAUCAAUUUUGAAAUAUAGAACUAGACAAUAAGUUGUAUUCCCUUGAACAUCAAUACUUAUGUAUCUAUGUUGACCUUCUUAUCUACUAAUGGUUAUGCACUAGAUUUUGAAAUUGAAAUUACAAUUAACUCUAACCUUUUGGACUUGAAACCUCAAUCUUGAUGGAUUGAUGUAUAAUAUCUAUAGUAACUCGCUUUAUAAUUGAUUAAAGUAACUCCUGCAAGCUAUUUAAAGCCAUCCAGUACAUUAUUUCUUAUUUCUCACUUUUCUGAGUUGUUUCAAUCACUCCAUGUUUCCACUUCUUCGUCAUUUGAGGUCAAUUCUCUUAGUUUUUCGUAUUUUUGUUCAUAUAAUAUUUUUUACACCUCAUUUUUAGUAUUCUUAGAUGUUUAGGGGUUUUUUUUUUUUGGAUUUUCAUCAAUUUUUCUUACUUUUAUUGUCCUUUUAUAUUUCAUCCUCUUGUUAUGGAAAGUCGUCAUCAUCCGUAUGAGGUGACCCCUCUAAGGUCGCCUGAGCUCAUUUAAAGCAUUGCACUCUAAAGUCCAUUUGACCUAAGAAUUUUUCUUGUUGAGUGCUUCCAUUGUUAGGAGGCAUGAGAUCAAUACUACACCUCUUUCAAUGAUUAACUAGUCGAGGUUGAGCAUCCAGUCAAUCUCAAAGUCUUCUAGGAGACUUCUCUCAUUGCUAUUGUUAGAGUGAGGAUAAGAGACAUUAUUUUCUCUUUAGGGGACUUCUACCCCCAUCAUAUUCACAUGUUUUAUGUGAACAUGCAUUCUCUUGUAAUUGGAGUUACCUUUUAGUUGAUUUUGUAUUAUCAAUCAUUUCUUGUCUCUUCCUGUUCUAUUUGAUGUGUUCUUAGCAUGUUGCGACAUGAGUCUUGCUUUGGGCAGAAGCCAUUCUCUAAGCCAGCGUGGCUACUAGCUACCUUCUUCACCUACUCCUUCUGUCAUUCUACUCAUCGUACCCAUAUUUGUCGGUUGUCUACUCAAUUCAUUCAUGCCAUACUCUCUAGCUACCAAUUUGAUAUCGACUUAAUGAUUUUGGAUAGAAUUACUCCUUCCCAUGAUCCAUAUUUUUGAGAAGGCACCUUUUCCUUUACCCUUCUUAUCUCAUAGAAUUUGGAGGAUGUAGGUUUUGAGAUAAACCCUACAUUAGGGGGUAUAAGAUACAUAUGCCCUCUUGGAAGGGAGCUCCUGGGCUAAGCCUUAUAGCCACAUUUAUGGACCAAUGGCACCUUUAAUCCACCAUGGUCCUCAGGAUAUAGCUCAACAGGCGGCUUAGGAGGCAACAAUAGAGGAGGAUGAGCUCCAAGCUAUGAAGCAAAGUGUAGUUCUUGAGGUAAAUUAUCUUAAGCCUACUUUGAGGACUUGCUCUAGUUGAGGUCAAGCAAAUUCUUCAAGAGCUACUCACAAGCAGUGUUUUAAAUGCCACAAAAUAUCGGGGAUAUUUUGCCAAUAUUUCGGGUAUAGAUGGGGCUCAAUAGAUAAAGAGAAUGAAAUUUUGGGUUAUGCAAAAUUUUGAGUAUUUCCCUCAUUUUUCAUUGAUAUAUCGGCUAUAUGCUGAUAUAAUACCAAUAGAUUAGUUAUAUUGGUCAUUUUUUAGUGCUUUGAUUUCUUUUAGGCCAAAAGGUUUCCCUUUUUUGCCAAAAGGUUUCUCUUUUUUUUCCAAAAGGUUUCCAUUUUUUAUUUUAAGCCGCAUUCUCACACGCACAGCCACACAAUAGUUGUUCGAGAGGAGAAAGGCACCAUCUAUUAAAUAGGCAAUUUUGUUCUCUCAAGUUUAUUGAUAAGUUUAAAAUUCUAAUCAAAUAGGUAAACAAAAUUUACAUUGGUGAGACUUGAACCCGAGUGCACAAGUUUGUCAUGGAAGGACACAACCAUUAAACCAUAUGUGAAUUUGUGGUUUAAAUUGUAUAUAGAAUUAUAUAUAUAAUGUACAUACCUUUUAUACAUUAUAAUAUUUUUAAUAUAUAUUAUAAUAAUAUUUAAUAAAUUAAACCAUUAUAAAUAAGUUAAUUUUAAUUAUCAUAUUAUAUAUUUUGUAUUCCAAUUAAAUACAAGGUAAAUAUAAAUUUUAUAAAUGAAUUUUUUAAUAUAAAAUACUUAUCUAAAUAUCACUUUUUUAUCCCUCAAUAUAUUCAAAUCAAACUAUUAUCAUUCUAAUAUUAUUGUGCUUUUAAAUUAGUAUAUUAUUGCCUACUAUUACAAAUUUAUUACAUAUUACUAUAUAUAUAGUAAUAUGCGUAUUCUUUUUUAUUUUAUCAUUUUUUUUAAGUUUUUCCAAGUAUUUUCAUGAAUUUUGAUUAAUUUGUAUUUCUUCAUUUUUUUUUUCAAAAUAUUCCACCGUUAUUUCCUGAUAUAUCCAUAAAAUCCAAUGAUCAAUAAUUCCAUGAUUAUCGAUAUUUUCAUCUUUGCUCACGAGACAUCUUUUUCUAUAGGCCCGACUACCCGAGAGACAUUGGAUUCCAUGGCUUAUGUCCAUUAGUAGAUGGACUCACAGGAUCUUCACCUUCGUGAGAUCCAAGGAUAACUCCACUAUAUCAUUUCCUAGAUCCACUAUAAAGGCGCCUUGAGCUCUACCUCUCUGUCUUCUUUGGAUGCAUAUAUAUAUAUAUAUGUUGUAUUCUUCUUUCUAUUUAACUCUUUAACUAUUGUGUGCUUUCCAAUGUUUAUAAUUCAUAUGCUUUGCCAUUUUUAUGACAAAAACAGGAGAUCAUUGACCAUAUUUAACUCACUUAAAUAGGGAGAGCGUAGGCAUCAAUAUAAUAGAAAAAAAGAUAAAGAAACUCGUUGACAAAUAGGAGUUAAUAAUUUUUUAAUUAUUUAUUUAAUUCAUUCUUUUGCUCAUUUAAUUCUUAAGGGAAAUUAAUUGAAAUAUUGGAGAAAAUUAAACCUAAGACAUUAGAAGAAAUUCGAUCAACUGUUGAAAGCAUAACUUGGAAGUUUAAGAGAGUUACCUAACACAAAUAUUUAUGUUUGAAUUGUCUUUCUCUUUGGAACUAUUAUGAGUCACGAAAGCUUCUUCUCAUGGUUUUCAUUGUCUAUUUUCUAGUUGGAGAUAGGCCUCUAGGCAUCAUAGUUGAUCUAUUGUGUCUUAUCAAGAUUCUAUUAUGUUCGGUUGAUUUGUAUACAUUUAAAUUCCUCUCGAGCUUUACUUUGUACCUUGGUAUCACUAUAGGGAUAUAUUUCUCUUACAUGUUUUCACAUCCAACUAUCAUGUUCUAUUGCUUUGAUCAUAUCUUAUUUCACACAUUGUUCUACUUUUGUUGUAGUUUUUUUAUGUGUGUAGCUUACAAGAUUGGAAGAUAAGUACUACAAGAUGAUGCAAAGCAUUCCCUUAGUUUAUUUUUAAUUAAGCAUUAAUGUGUGUUAUGUAAACUCCUUUAUAAGAGUUUAGAUCGGUUUAUGUAAUGAUGUUUUGUCACAAGACUGCCAAAGAGUGAAAUAGUUAGGACAUUAAGUCUUGAUUAUAUGUUGGAAAUUUUGUUCAUUUUAAUGUUUGGCCACAAAAGUCUUUUUAGAUAGUGAAUUGCUCUCCAUUGAAGGUCAAAAGUUAUUGUUUGUCUAACCGAGAAUUCACAAGUAUAUCUAAAAAAGUUUGGCUUGUAGUAAGUUAGGCUCCUUUGAGGUAUAAAGAAGAUUGAUAAUUGUUUUGAACUUAAAAUUAAUUUUUAUAAGGUUUUUGAAAAACAGGGGAUGCUUAAGUAGGAAGCAAUGCUCAAGUUGACCACUCAAGUGCCAUACACUGCUUGAAUGCCCAAAGCGCUCAAGCCACUAUCAUAAGCUCGAGCAAUCAUGAAUUUAUAGUUGAGAUUUUUUCAUGCAAAAUUGAUUUGGAAGUCUUCUAAAACCAAACCUUUUGGAGAUUUAUUCCUACAAAUACCUCUUUAUAACCCCUUAAGGGUUAGAGAUUGUUUAAGAGAUUGGUGAGAGAUCUUACAUUCUUUAGGGAGAGUCUCUUAGAGAAAAAGCUUAACGAGCCACACCAUUCCCAAUCUCUCAUUCAAGGAUUCAAUCUUUGAAUCUUGGUUGAAAUGCAUUCACUAGAGUAAUAGGAGGUUGCUACGUUGCGGACAUGGAUCAAGUUUUAAGUAUUAAAGAGUAAGUCUUUAGGGUAAAGUGGCUAAGUAAAUCUAUAUAACUUGAUCUCAUAUAAUGGAUUUAGAUUAUUGGUCUUACACUUCAUGUUCUUUUAUCUCCACAAUUAGUGUGGGGGUUUUCCAUGUGAAAAAUCUCUUGUACCUCAUUUCUUAUUACUUGAUAUCUUAUUUGAACUGCCUACAAUAGAAAUUAUUGGUAUACUAAUAUCUCGUAGGAUAAAAAUUAGGUAUAACAUAUAAAUCUUUAUUUAAAUUUUUUAACAAAUCCAUUUUGCCUCCUUCCCCUAGGUGUUACCUCACUGGACUUAGGGGCUUUUCAAACCAUAAGUUGGUUCAACUUGAGUUGUUCUUUUAUGUUGUUGACCAUCGUUAGAUGAAUCAUUUUGUUGGAUUGCACUUGUUAAUCGAUUUUUUUUUCUCAUAUCCAACUUUUGUUUCUUGUGAUUCCUCCAUCUAAAACCCACCAAUUAUUUUACAUCAUAAUAUAAAGUUUCACCACUUGUUUUGUAUUUUAACCCUAACAAUUCAUGUUCUUUAAAAGUAACAUCUCUACUAAUUAUUGUCUUUCUCAAAUUCAGACACUACAACUUAUACCCCUUCACUUUAGUAGAAUAUCUAAGAAAUAAACAUUUCUUUCUUUGCUCUUGGUUGCAACUUUUUAUCAUUUACAUGUGCAUAUGUUGUUGACCCAAAUACAAUAAGGUGUUCCAUACUUCUUGAGGUGUUUUGAACUUUAUGGAACUUGAAGGUCAUUUGUUAAUCAAGUCACAUCUUGUAUGGAUAUCUUUCACCCAUAACUUUGUAGUUUAUCUUAUAUUUAUCAACAUGCAUCUUACUCUUUCAAGAAUAGUAUGAUUCAUCCUUUUAGUUAAGCCAUUUUGUUGAGAUGUACUCUUCACAGUUCUUGUUGGGAUUGAGCUCUUAAAGGAAACACAUGAUGUAACAAAGUUAGACUUAACUGUCCUCUUGCCAUCCUUUUGGUGUAUUGACAUUGAUUUGAGCAUUUAGCUCAUAUCUCUUACAUUAUUACAUGACUUAGGUCAUUAAGAGUUGCACACAAGAUACAAGUCAUGAGUUCCUCAUAAGUACAUAAGUUGUCCACAAUUGGUUAAUGGAUUUGGGCAAUCCAAUAAAGACUGUAGUGCACCACCUCAUAAUUGAAGGGAUGACUUAUCUUGGCCAUCAAGAUGAGUAUCCCAUGAUGAAAUGAUGAGUGCACUAGUUUAUGUGAUGCACAUUGGACUGGACCUAUGGUGAAUCAUGAUGUAAGGCUAUCAAAUGUCAUGAUUCACCAAGCUAUUAUGCUACAUGGACUCUCAACCUUGAGAGGAUAUUGAGCUUGUGAUGAAAUCAAUAGAAGGCUUUGACCUAUGGGAGAGACCCUAAAGUGGUCAUAUAUCCUUAUAGAUUAGGUCACUAUUAAUGAAGACUAGCGACAAUAGGUAUUCUCAAUAGAGGCACCAUGAUAUCCCAUAGGAUUGAGACGGUGUGUCCCCUUGAGUGAUCUAAAGGACAUGUGAUAAUGAAAUUUGUGGCCAAAGUAAUUCCUUUAGUGGAAUUUGACUUAUGCUCCUUGGAGUUGGAGCUAGAGUAUGUUAGUUAAUCAUAUAAUAGGUUGUGUGCACGAGACGCGCAUAGGUCACAUGCAUGGGAAUUGCAUGAGACGUGCUUAUGGGUAGCAGCAUGAGGAGAAAGACUCUCUAGUUUUUCCAAGUAUGUUCUUCAUCGGAUGGAUUUUGAUUUGGGAACAUCUAAAUCACAAGUAUGAGUUUCAAAUAUCAAGAUCUAUAGUUAUUAAUGGUUUUCAUUGCCAUUUUAUUUCACUAUGAUAGAUUUUCAAAUGCCUAGAGAUAGAUGCAUGCACCCUAUGAGAUCCAAGGUAUUGGAAUGGAGUAUUAAUCUAGGGUUCCGAAGUGAUUAGAAUAGUAAGAUCUAAAGAUUGAACCUAGCACUAAUUAAACAUCUGGUAUUUAGACCUAGGUCAUAUUAAUCUGAAUAAGAUGCAAAGAUUGGCAAAGUCAAGACUCUUUGAUUCCAAAAGAUCUUCCAAUCUAUGAAUUUUAUAUAGAUGGUAAAAUGAUCAAGAGGACUAGAAUUAAGGAAUAUUUGGAGUUAGUGCAUACUAACAUGUAUGGACCUUUUAGUGUCUAUGCAUGGGGAGGGUAUGGGUAUUUCAUCACUUUUAGUAAUGAUUGCUCUAGGUUUGGAUAUGUACAUAGGAAAUCUGAUGCCUUGGAUACAUUCAUUGAAUUUAAGGUGGGAUCGAAUAACCUAUUGGAUAUACAUACCAAGUCAUUUCAAUUAUGUCAAGCUGAUAUGUCUAGUAAGUUUGAUUUUUUUUGUUGGAGCAUAGGAUUAUUUUCUAGUUAUGUUCAUCAAGGUCUCUAUUGCAAAAUGGAGAAGUGGAAAUAAGAUAUCAAACUUGGAUUAACAUAGUAAGAUUGUGGAUAGGCUUCUCCUAUUUUAUCAGAUUAUUUUGGGGAUAUGUCAUAUAGUCUGUGUAAUUACCUUUUUCUUUUUUCUUCGUAAGAGGUGUAUUAGUUUAUAGGAUAUCUAAGAGGAUUUUUGGGUUAUUAGGUUUAUAGUCAAGAUGAUCAAAAAAUAUUUGUGAACAUAAAUGUCCCAUUUUUUAUGAAGAUUAUAUGAUAAGGAAGAAGGCAGGGAGUGACAUAGAUUGGAGGAUAUAUUAGAAUAUAGUUCCACAUUACAUAGGACACUAUGGAUCGAAAGGGUUAAAGACAUACCAUUCUUAUGAUUUCUAGUACACCAGUACUUCAUCAUAGUAAGGAGUUUAUAUCCCACAAAUUAUGAUGAAGCAAUGAGCAGUGUUUAUGCUCACUUAAGGCAAGGACGUGUGAUCAUGAAAUCUAUGAACCCAUUAUAAUUCUUUUAGUGAAAUUUGACAUAUGCUCUUAGUGAUUUAGAGUAUGUAAUUUAAUCACAUAAUAGGAGGAUCUAUAACUCUAAAAUUGUAGAGGUAGUCUUUAAAGACUGAUAACUUUCACCUUGUUAGACUACAAACAACCAAUUCAUGGGAAGAUUGUAUACAAUAGAUAGCAAGUCACGAACUUGAGCACUUGGUGUCUCAUUGUAAUAUACAUAGGGUACCAAAAUAUAGUUAACUCUCUAUAGUGGGAUAUUGAGUCAACUUUAUAAUUGGAUUCUAAGGGAUCUAGUACUGUCCUAUGGGUUCCAUUGGUCUCUACUAAAGCUUAUUUUCCUUGAUAACAUGGUUUAUGAGAGUUGGAUGAGUUUUUAGUUAACUUGUGUGCAUAAAUGCAUUUUGGUAAUUACACAAGGUUACAUAGGGGUAACUGUGCGAUAUCUUUGAACUUGGGUAAUUGAUUAAUUAGAGCCUUAUCGUAUUAAUUAAUCAAUUAGAAAUCUUUUUGGGUUAAAUUAAGUGACCCAUGCCCAUAGUGGGCUCAAGUCACUUAAGCAUAGUAGGAAACUUAUAAAUACCCCUCUCAAGGGUUUAGGUUUCUAAUUCAAUCUUGCCAUUCUCUCCCUACAGUCCAGAGAGAGAACCUUAGUCUUCAACCUUGAGAUUUCCACCAUCUCAGUGCCUAGAUUCAAGAAGGAGUCAUCGAGUGGAUGAUUAUGGGUUUACAGGAUCUUUAUUAGAUUUGGAGCUUUCUACACUAACAAGAAUUGAUUUGGGAACAUCUGAAUAAUACAUAUAACACUUUUUUCUAGAUUCAUGAUAUGUUUUCUUUUUUAAAAUACCAAAGUUUUCAACUAUGCUUAGAUCUAGAAAGCACAAAAUAGGAUUACAUGCACCCUAAUGAUCCAAGGCCUAGGAAUAGAGCGAUCCAAGGUUUCCUAGAAAAUAUAACCCAAUAAGUAAGAAUGAUUUAUAGGAACUAAAAAUUCUUUCAAAAAGAAAAAAAGUUAAUUGGAGUAAGAUAGGUAUACAAGAGAAGGAAAAAUGCAAAAGGAGUAGAAAAAUAUAAAGCAACAUUGGUGCAAAGGAUUACAAGAAAGAAUAAUGCACCAACAAGAUGAGGGUAUUUGCUCUCAUUGUUCUUUUAGUAACUAUAAAUUAAUAAUCUCUUUGGUAGCUCAAAAUAGUUGAAAUUUUCAAAUGGAUGUGAAAUCCAAUUUUUUGAAUUGACAUCUUGAAGAAGUGUAUGUAGAACACACCAUAGUUGGUAUAUAUAUAUAUAUGGGCAUGAGAAUAAAGUUCCAAAAUUGAAAAUAACCUUGUAUGGAAUAAAACAAACACUAAGAGCAUGAAAUGAUAGAAUUGACCAAUAUUUUCAUGAUAAUAAUUUUGUUUAAUACCUUUAUGAACACGCUCUCUGCAUAAAAGUGAAUGAAAAAAAGUAAUAUAUUACUUGUUUGUUUAAAUGUGAAUUUUUUGAUCUUUAUUGGAACUAAUCCAAUCAUGUUUAACGAGUUCAAAGAAGUAAUAGAAUAAAAGUUUGAGAUGACUGGAUUAGUCUCAUAUCAUACUCUCUUGGCUUAGACUUGAAGAGAUUGAAAAGAGUACUUUUUAUUUCUCAAGAAGACCAUGCAAAAUAAAUUUUCAGAAAGUUUAACUUGAAUAUGUGUAAUAUGGUAAACACUACAAUAUAAUGCAAAGCUAAAUUAUCAAAGACAUGUAGAAAGAGAAAAAGUGGAUUCAACAUAACAUAAAAUCUUAGUUGGAAGCAUACACUAUUUGACUUAUACAAUUUCAAACAUUCUCUAUGGCAGUUGGAUUUGUCCAUCAUUAUAUGGAAGCACUAAUGAGUAUUUACACUAAGACCUCGUGAAUUUUUCACUACAUCAACGACACAUUUGAUUAUGACUUAUAUUAUUCACCUUUAACAAUUUCAAACUUGUUAGAUAUAACGAUAGUGAUUAAGGUGGAGACUUAGGAUGAUACAAAGAGAACCACUAGCUUUAUGUUCCUCAUGGGAGAUACCAUGUUCACUUGGACUUCAAAGAAGCAACCUAUUGUGAAACUUUCAAUGUAUAAAGUGGAAUUUGUAUUGGCAUCAUGUGUACGUAGGUCAUGGAAUUUGGCUCAAAAAUUUGUUGAAAGAAUUUAGUUUACCACACAAGAAACCAAUAAAGAUCCAAGUGGAUAUAAAAUCAACAAUUACCUUAUGAAAAAAUCUAGUUCUCCAUGAUGAAAGCAAGUACAUUGAUACAAAAUAUCAUAUUUUAGAGAGUAUAUGAAAUACAGAGUGCAAUUAAAAUUUACAAAAUCUCAUAAUCAAAUUGUUAAAAUGUUUACAAAUUCUCUUAAGUUUAGCGAUUUUAGAAAGCUAAGCUUGCUACUUUGACAAAUCAAGUUGAAGGCAUGAGUGAAAAUGUUGACAAAGUUUCUCGAGUUUAAAAAUUUUAGAAAACUAAGGAUGCUAUUUUUACAAUUGAAUGGAGGAUUUAGUAAAACUGGAUUUAGGAAGUUUCUAAAAAUUAGAAUUUGAGUUAGAUUCUAAAAUGCUUGUUUAGUUUGUAUAUUUUGUUAUUACAAGAUUUCAUAUUUUACCAUUAUGAGUAUUAAAUUUUUUUAGGUGUUAAUAUCUAAAAAUAAGAUGUUAUGUAAUAGUUGAACAAGAGUGGUGGAAGAAAAUAAAUUUUUUCUUAGUCAUCCCAAUUAUUUAAAUAUCUCCCUUUACAUAUGUAAUUAUGUAAUGCCCUAAACCCAAUUUAGGGGUAAAAUCAUAAUUUAGAAAUUAUUAAUGAAUAAAAGUAAUUUAAUAAGGGUAAAAAAGUCUUUUUAUAUUUAAAACCCUAGAUAUAAAUUAGAUUUUUCAUAUCUUCUCUAUUCAGAAAACCCUUUUACAUAGAGAUCAGAAAGAUCAAAGAGCAUAGGGCUGAAGAUUUGGAGGUUUAGGGUUUGAAGAUCAAUUUUUCAGGUAAGAUUUUUAAUCCUUAAAUUAAUAUUUUAUAUUCGCUAAUUAGUUUUGAAUACUUUAGAUAUUCUUUGGAAUAUCUCAAUUUUGAUUAGAGUUCAUUUAAUUAAUUUCUAGGUCAAAAAGAUUAAAAAUUUAUGAACAUAGUUUGAUUUAUUAAUGGAGAUCGAUAAGUUUUGAUUGCUCAAAUGAAUAAAUCUAGAUAAAAAAAAAUUAAAAAUUAUACUUUAGAGGGUAUGGAGGUUAAAAGUUUUUACUUUAGAGAGGAGAAAACAAAUGAUGAAAGAUGCGUAGGAAGGAUUUGGCAUGUUGAAAAAAAAAAUGGUUGACCUAGGAAAGGAAUUAAAUAGUAUUUUGGUAAACAAUAAGGAAGAAAAGGACGUGGAUGUCUUGGAAGAGAAAUAGGUUAAGGUGUUGUUAGGUAUUGAAAUUAAUAAUAAUAAUAAUAAUAAUAAUAAUAAUGAUGAUAAUAAUAAUAAUAAUAAUAAUAAUAAUAAUAAUAAUAAUAAAAGAAACAAUAAUAAUGAAAGGAGUUGGUGUGGAGUUGUUGGGAAAAAAAAAAAGAAAAAUUGCAUGGGGUAUUUGUUAAGUUUCAAUAGAAGAUUUAAAUAAUAGUAAUAAUAAUUUAAUACAAAUAAAUAUUCGUAAAAGUUUUAAUUUAGAUAAGUUAGAAAAGAGAAAUAAAUUAUUGUUUAGGAAGUUGAAAAUAAUAUUGGAUGGUAAUAAUAUUAAUAUGAGAAAUUAAUUAGGAUCCCUAAUACUAAAUAAAAUAUUUUUAAGGUUGUCAAAUUUAUAUAUUUAGAUAAAUAAUCAAUAAUCAAUAUUGUGUAUGAUAUUAUGUUAGGUGAGGAGUAAAUUCGUCAAGCUAAAUACUUUAAGUUUUUGAGUGCUUCUUCAAGGUAAGGGAAAUUAGUGCGGAUUUUUAUAAAAGAAAACAAUUUUAUUUUUAUAUUGUAUUUUGAAAUGUGCAAAAAUAUUAUUUUUAUCUUUACGUAUAGAUGAAAUAUGUGUUUUGUAUGGAAAAUAUAUUUGAGAAUUUUCUUUGUUUAUGAAAAAUGAAAAAUUAAGGAGAUAUGAUAUUUUGUUUUGUAAAUUUGAAUUAAUGAAAUAAAGUGUUUGACUUUGGUUCUUAUGGCCCUAAUCAACGGGUUAUAAUUGUUGACAUAUUCAGCCCUAAUCAACGGGUUAUAAUAGUUGAUAUUAUAUGACCCCAGUCAACAGGUUAUAAUUGUUGACAUAUUCAAUCCUAAUCAAUAGGUUAUAAUAGUUGAUAUUAUAUGGCUCUAGUCAAUGGGUUAUAAUUGUUGACAUUUGGUUUUGUUCACCUUAAAUAGAACAAAUUUGAAACUAGUUACUCAAUUGUGAAGUCCCAUCUAAUUAGGCACUAUUUGUCAUACAAUAACCAGAGUAAAGAUAUUUUGAAUGUAUUCGAUUUGGUUUUGAUGAGAAAUUGUUUUGAAAUGGAUAUGAGAAAGUUUUGUUGAAAAGUUUGAAUGUAUUAGUAUUUUGAACUCAAAAGUUUUUGUGAAAAUAAGUAUAUGUUAUAUUUGUUAUUUGCAAGCAUGAUUGAAAAUGUUUGAUCCAUGAAACUGUAUUAAUGUUCCUUAUUGGGCUUUGAGCUCAUCCACUUUUGUUAAUAAUCUUUCAACUAACCUCAGUUCGAGUGAGGAGUGACCGUUAGGAGGGAAAUUUGGCUUUAUUAGGACAUUUGUUUAAACUCUCUUUAUGUUGGACAUUGUUUAGAUGUUAAAACUUAAUUCUCAUUUGAAUUAUUUUGAGUUUGGAGUUAUUUGGACAAUGACACUUUGGUUGAUGUAUUAGUUUUUUUAUAAAGUUGAUACUUGGAGAUUUUAGAAUUUUAUCAUACUACUCUGAAUAGGAAUUUGGUAAUUUGUAAAUUUCUAGUUACAAUAUGAAUGUUUGUAUCGUUUCCACUUUGAGCCUUUGGGCUUGAGGUGAAAUGAGAGGUGAAAUGAUCGUCAUGCCCUUGGAGUGGGUUUUGGGGUGUGACAAAUUACUUCCAUGUUUUUUCAACCAUAUUAUUGCAACAUAUGUGGAUCUGCUGGUUGGUCUAUGAAAAUUCAUAUAAGUUGUUAAAUUCUGUUAGGCUUGUGUAACGGUAUUUAGAUCAUAACAUCUUUCCCUAAGCCCGCAUUUUUCUAAAUAUAUAAUUAAAAUUGUUGUGUUUGCAAUUUUAAUGAAAUCUAGCAUUGGAUACUCAACUUCUCACAAAAUGACAAAAAAAAAUGGUGGUGAUUUCAUGGAGGCUAACCAUUCACCUACCUUUAGUCAAGGUUUUCAAGUUGUGUUACAAUAGUAAAGUAAUAAUCUCAAUCAAAACACAAAAUUUAGUUUUCUAAACAAUUAUUGUUCUUGGAAAACAUGCAAGGAAUUUAAGCAUCUUAAGGUACUUAAGCAAUCUUAGUUGGACAUUCAGUAUCCAGAUCUUUUCAUUAAUUGGUUUUUCUCUUUUUGUGCCAACAUCUGCUCUCUCUCUCUCCAACAUGCAAGCGUAAGUGGUAGGCACCUCUUUUGUGCUUUAAAUUAAUUUUUGAAGUAAUUUAAAUCAACUUAAAAGAUCAUAAGUCCCAUUGGAUAUGAUGUAUUGAGUUUUAGAUUUUUGAAGUAAAAUUAUCAACAUAGUCUAGAAUAUAUACUAAUAGAUUAUACUCUUUCCAAGAGUUUAAAUUGCUUUUUGUUAAUAGAUUAUAUGGAUGUUUUAACACAGAAAUUGGAAUGAAGCCAAAUAUGCAGAAAAAAGAAAUGGUUGUGACCAAUAGUUAUAUUUAAUCUCUUUUAUUUCUAUUGAUACUCAAAUUUUUAGGGAUAGAGCAUCAACAAUCCUUGUGAUGAAUUAAUAAUGUUGAUAAAAGUCAAUGACUACACAAUGUAGCUAGCUUAAAACCAAAUAUGUCAUUAAAGAAGAUAUCGAUAAUCACCCCCACACAAUGAUAUCUUGUAUAAUUCAUUAGUUGAAUCAAACACAAAUUUCGUUCAAUAUAUGUGUCUACGAGUAAAAGAGAGUUCUUGGUUUAUAUUCGACAUACACGCUAUAUAGGCUAUGCUAACAGCAAUUGAUAACAAGAAUCUCAACACUGAAGUCCAUGUAGAAUCAGGUGUCCACCAUAUUGGAGUUGCAUAGUUAGGAUAUUGAAAGGAGCAUGAGCAUAGGAUGGCGAAAGUUCAAAUAAGAAGUGUUGUAAGAUCAUUGCCAAAGCUAUUUUUGCCUCCAUCAUUGCAAAAUUUUGUCCAAUGCAUGCCUGAGGACCCCAACCAAAUGGGAAAAAUGAAACUUGGUUUUUUUUUGCCUUCGAAAUUCCUUCUGCAAGCCUCUCUGGGUUAAACUCCUUUACAUCAUCUCCCCAAAUUUCAUGAUCAUGGUGAACUAGGAUGGUGGGCAACGCAACCUGCACUCCAGCUGGAAAAUACAUGUCUCCCACUUGAGUGUCCUUAUAAACAGCUCUAGUAAGCAUUGCUACUGGUGGGUAUAACCUAAGAACCUCAUGAAAAAUCAUGGUAACCUGUGGUAGAGAAACUUUAUAAGUUGUAGCAUGAGAAUUCUUACUAAAAUACAUUCUAAUCAUUAUGCAGAACACUGAAGAAUAAAGCAAUUUCUUAAAAUAGUGAUGCAUAAGAGAAAAUGUUCUAAAUCAUGCAUGCCAAAAUAUCAAGUAUACAAAGGACAUUGCAUAUCCCAUGGAUAUAAUAACUUAAGAACCUCAUAAAAAAUCAUCAUGAUCUAUCAGAGAAAUUUGAAAUCAUGGCAUGAGAACCUGUUCCUGAGCUACUAAGUGAAAGCAAAUGUUUAGUACAAAAUAUAAAAACUUAAGAAAAAUGUGUUUUCAAUUUUACUCCAAUUUUGGGGAAAAAAAAUAGAGUACUAUAUGAUUUCAGUGAGAAUCACUAAACUGAAGAUUGGACUGAGUACUCACAAUUUUUAGGUGAUUUAAUCCAUUAGCUUCCAGUUUUUUAUUCCCAAAAACCUGUAAAACCUCUUCUCUUGCACGAGCUUGCCAAUUUGGAUUCUCGCUUAGCAGGACCAUUGUCCAUACAAGAAAAACUGAGGUUGUCUCUUGGCCAGCAAGAUAGAAUAUCUUACACUCUUCAAUGACCUCUUUGACACUCAUUCCAAUCUUCUUGUUAUUUUUAUGUUCUUGAAUUUAUCUAAAAUUGGAUUCCAUUAGUAUAACUAAUAAGUCACUAUUACCAGUUUUGUCAGCCUUCAUUGUCUUCUCCCUUUUGUUAAUGAUACCCCUCAGCAAUGCAUAUGCUUUUUUGCUUAUUUGCUUCAUCUUCCUGUUCGUCUUUGUGGGUAAAAACUUGUGCGCAUGUUAGUAAUUCUAGUAAAUAAAACAUCACAUGAAACACACAGACAUUAAUUCUUAUUUUCAUUCAUGCUUUUUACUUCUCCAUUAAUUUUUUGAAGCUUGUAUAAGGCUUCAAAGGUAGAAACUAUCAAGACAAUAACUAAUGGUUUCAUCUACACAUGUGUUGCAAUGGUAUAUCAUCAUCUUGACACAGUAUCCUGCCAACAUAAGAUUGAGGAUACUAAACAUCAAUUAGUGAAACAUACUACUUUCUAGGUGUUAUACAAAAGAAGUAAUUGACUAAAAGGGGAUGAAAUGAUCUCAUAUUUGUAAAUCUAAUAUCUCCUAUGCUUGACCGUGAAAAGUAAUCCAUUUUUAACAUAAAUUCCCUUCAACAUAUGAACCGAAAUUUGUGCUGGCAUCAUGUGUAGGUCAUGAAAUUUGGCUCUGAAAUUUGUUCAAUAAACUUAAUUUACCAAACAACACUACAAGGAAAAAGAUAUAUGGUGACAUUUAUAAUAAGUCACUAUAAACAUAGGGUGUCACUACAACAUAGCGUCACCUUAUCCACUGACACCAUAAAGGGUAUCAAUUGGUGACGUAUUUGGAAGCGACACCAAAGCAGAUAAAUGGUGACACAUUCAGAAGAGACACCAUAUAUUUUUAGUGAUGCUUAAUUUGAUAUAGAGUUGUAUGAGAUAUAUAAGGUGUCAUAUUAAAUGCAUCAUCUUUGAGUUAUGGUGUCACGUUAAAUGUAUCACCUUUAAUUUAUGGUGUCACAUCAUUGUAAAUGAUUAUGGAAAAUAUGGUUGUUUUUUGUUGAUUAGUUUGUAGAUUUUUGUAAUGCUUAUUAAUAAAUAAGACUAACCUGUGUAAAUUGUCCAUAAAUAUAAUAAUCAUAUUACAUUUAACUUAUAUUUUCAUAAUGCUUAUGAAUUAAUUUGUAACAUAUUACAUCAUCCAAUAAUAUUUGUAUAUCAAAUGUUCACAAAAUGAUAGUACAUCAAACACAUCAAACCCACCAAAAGGAAAAAAGAAAAGUGAAUACACAUUAAAACAUGAUUUAAANNNNNNNNNNNNNNNNNNNNNNNNNNNNNNNNNNNNNNNNNNNNNNNNNNNNNNNNNNNNNNNNNNNNNNNNNNNNNNNNNNNNNNNNNNNNNNNNNNNNGAAUAAGUAAUGUUAUACAAUAUCAAUGGAAAAUUCAAUCAUAUAACAACUAAGGGACUUACCAUGAAUGAUCACAAUACAUCAAUAUGAUUCAUGAUUAGUUAUAACACAAAAGUAAUCUAUUCUUCUCUAAUUUCAUCAAAUUCUACUUGAGAAUAUGUUUUAUUUGUCAUCAAACUGAAAUCAAAUGAGAAUAACAUUAAUAUCACAAUAAUUAAAAGUAUGAAAUUAUGUACAAUUCAUUAAAUGAGUAAAACCUUUGAUGCAAUUACUGUAAAAUCAACAAUUAUUUCUUUAAUGAAUCUCAUAACAAAGUAGUCAUAUUUGAACUUAGCAUUAUUUUUUUACUCUUAAAUUAUUUUAAAACAAAAUAACAAUUAUUAAUAUAUUGGUUCAUUUUUAAAUACUUUCACAAGAAUAUAUUUUAACUACGAGUUAUUUUAAUUUAUCAAAAGACUUUUAGGAAAUGAGCUAUUAUCCAUUUAUUAUUUUCUUAUUUUUCAAAAAAUAUUUUUAGUCAUUUCAUACACGUUUUCAACUACUAAAAUUAUUGUUUUUAUAGAAUAAACAAAGAAGCAUACACUUCUCCUCCACUCACUAAGUCAACUAUUACAAUCACCAUAAUAUUUUAUUCACCUACCAACAUCUCAUUCCAUUUAGAUAACUCUCUCAACAAAAUCAUUUCUACAAUACUUUUUACUCUCCUAUGAUAUUGAAUAUUUUAUUCCAUUUAGGUGACUCUCAACACAAAGAAAAGUAGGAAUGUCUUCUUAGGUUAACUAAACAAAGACUUUUUUUUUUUUUUUUACUUUACAAUAUGUAUAAAAAACAAUUAUUUAUUACAAGGAAUGUGGUAGAAAGGUCAUUUUAUUUUUAAAGAAUUUUUAAGAAUUUAUUAAACAUUUACAAAAAAUAGAAUCUAACAAUUUUAUUUCUAAAAAAAUUGAUCAAUUCAAAAAAGAAAGAAGAAUGUUAUUUUUUAAGAAAAGUUAAUAAACCACUUUAUUCUUGAAUUAUCUAAACAAAACUUACUAAAAAAUAUUUUAUCCCAAAUUUAUUUUCAAAACUUUCUUAUUGAAAACUAUCUCAUAUAUAAAUUAUUUUAUUAUAUAGAGAAAUUCUUAUUUUAUUCUUUUUUUAGAGAAAAAUUCACUUGUUUUUUAAAUAUCAAAGAAGUCUAUUUUUAUGUCUAUUAUAUAUAUAUAUAUAUAUAAAUUCUCUUAUUUUCAUACAAGAAAUUUCCAUUUAUGCCUAAAAUACUUUUAGAAAAAUCAUUGCCAACAAAAUUUUAUUUUUAAAAUUAUUUUCAACAUUCUUAUUUAAAAAAAUUAUCAUUGGAUUAUUUUCAAAAAAGACCGUCCUAAAAAAAUUAACCAUUUAUAACCCAAUUUAAACUCAAAAAUUAUCCCCAAUAUUAUUUUAUAUUCCUAAAUUAUUUUCAAACAAAAUAACAAUUAUUAAUAUUUUGAUUCAUUUUUAAAUACUUUCACAAAAAUAUAUUUAAACCACAUAUUAUUUUAAUUUAUCAAAAUAUUUUUAGGAAAUGUGCUAUUUUCCAUUUAUUACUAUCCUAUUUUUCAAAACAUAUUUUCAGGCAUUUCAUUCACAUUUUAAAUUUCAAAUACUAAAAUUAUUGUUUUUAUAAAACAACAAAGCAUGUAAAUUUCAACUACUAAAAUUAUUGUUUUUAUAGAAUAAACAAAGCAACAUACACUUAUCUUCCAUUUACUAAUUCAACUAUUACAAUCACCCCAAUAUUUUGUUCACCUACCAAUAAUUCAUUCCAUGUAGGUGACUCUAAAAAAAAAAAGUCAUAUUUAUAAUACCCUUUACCACUCUGAUACCCAAUAUUCUAUUCCAUUUAGGUGACUCAAUACAAAGAAAGUGGGAAUGUUUUCUUAGGUUAACCGAAGAAAACCCUAAAUAACUUAAGUGCUUUUGGAUUAAUUGAGCAUCAUCUUGUAGUAGAUGUCAAUCUCUAUUGUUAGACUUCACCAAAAAGCUCCUAGCACGGUGGAAAAAAGUAUCAAAUAUAGUCAAGUCUUCAAUAAAAUAUUUUCACAUGUGAAAAAUUACAACCAAUACACUAUAUAGUCAAGUCUUCAAUAAAAUAUUAUUUCAUACGAAAAAUUACUACAAACUAGUGUAUCUCUCAUUCUCAAUUAGACAUAAUUUUUAAAAAUAAUUCCUUUUUUUUUUUCAUUUGUUUUGGGGCUUAUUAGCAAUGAAACAAAAAAUAUGUUAGAAUGUUAAACCUAGUUUUUACUUCCCUGGAACUUGAUAAAAAACACCAUUUACAAAACCCACAUCAUAGAUAUACUUAAUCAAGAGAUAUAAAACAAUUAUACUAACAAAGUUUUUUGCAUUAAUAAAAAAAAAUGAAGAUGAUAGAUAAGAGAUUUGGACUUACCCGAGAUUUUACGAAGCAAAGAAUAUCAAUUAUGGGUGUGCCGACCAUGGGUGUGAGAAGAAGGAGAAGAAAACGAUGGUUAGGGUUAAGCAAUAAGAUCUUUUAUAUUAGUUAAUGUAUAUAUGGAAACAAUGGACUUUUCAUAAAUUGUUCCUACUUACUAUUUUUAAAAAGGGCCCAUUGAGUUAUAAAAUUUAAAACUUUUUAUUUCAUAUGGUGUCACUUCCAAAAAAUGACACUGUAAAUCUGAAAUUAGCAUCAUCUAACUAUCCUAAUUGAAGAUUUUUUAUAUGAUGUGUCACCUUUAUAAAUUUUAAGUUCAAUGGUGUCAUUAUUUUAAAUGCGACACCAUAAAUAGUGACAUCAUAAAUUAUUUUUGUAGUAGUGCAAGAAACGAAUAAAGAUCUAUAUGGAUAUGAAAUCAACAAUUAUCUUAUGAAAAAAUCUAGUUCUCCAUGAUGGAAGCCAGUAUAUUGAUACAAAAUAUAAUUUAUUAGAGAGUACAUUAUGAAAUAUGAAAUGCAAUUAAAAUUUACAAAAUGUCAUGAUCAAAUUGUGAAAACAUUAACCAAGUCUCUCAAGUAUAAAGAUUUUAGAAAGCUAAGGAUGCUAUUUUUACAAAUCAAGUUGAUGGGAGGAUGUUAGUUAAACUAGAUUUAGAAAGUUUCUAAAAAUUAGAUUUUGAGUUAGGUAUUAAAAGUUAAUUAAAAUAUUUUAUACAGAAUUCUUGAUUUAGUUUGUAUAUUUUGUUACUGCAAGAUUUUAUAUUUUACUAUCGUGAGUAUCUAUUCUUUUUAGGUGUUAGUAUCUAUAAAUAAGAUGUUAUGUAAUAGUUGAUCAAGUGUACAGGUGGACGACAAUAAAUUUUUUCUUAAUCAUCUCAAUUAUUUAUUUAUGUAAUUGCUUGUGUGUUUUUUCAACCACAUUGCUGCAACAUAGGUGAAUCUGUUAGUUGGUCUAUGAAAAUUCAUAUCAGUUGUUCAACCUUUUAAAUUCUAUAACGUAUGUAGAUUAUAGCCUCUUUCCCUAAGCCUGCAUUUUUCUUUCAUUUCAUGGUGUCAACACUUGAGGAAAGCAAAAUUUCCUAAAAUGGAAUAUGGUGUGCAAGGAUCCAGUGACUUAUUAGGCAUCUAAACAUGGUGGCAUUUAUUUUUUUGGCUUUUUGCUAAAAGCAAUUUGCUUUCAAAAUUUAGGUUGUUUGUUUUUUUAGUUUUUGAUGACUUAUUAUUGAAUUUUUAAAAUUUUUGGCUAAAUUGAGCACAAACAACUGACAUAAAAAUUCAUCUAAAAGUUUUCAAAAUUUUUGCUAAAACGUUAUAAAUUAACACUUGAAAAAAAAAUAGUACUUUUCAAAGUGGAAGUAUAUUAAUUUCUUGAUAAAAGAAAUUGCAAUAUUGUUAGCAAAGAUUAAGAACUACCACUGAAAUCUAAACCUUUGGUGUAAUUUAAAAAAGAGGGAAAAAAAACAAAAAGGAAAAGAAAAAUAAUUAGGAAGAGAAGAGCAGAAAACAAACAACUGCUUUAGGGCAGUAUAAAAAAGUUGGCCAUAAUUUGAAGAGAUCAGCAAACUUUAAUACUAUGAUGAAAAGUAAUAACUCAUAUCGCUAACGUAUUUCUUAAUGAAAUGACAACGGAAGGGCAGGACACGCGGGGCAAUAUCAUCAGAGAGGCUGAUUGGUCUUGAAUAUGCUUCUUUUAAUAUCAUGGACAUUUCUUUGAAGUCCCCAUGUAAAAGGCUAUAAGAAUUCUCAGCCAGGCCUUACUCUCUAAGGCAUCUUUCUAACCUCUAUGGCCUCAACCACACCCAAUUCAAUAGCAUCCAUAAACAGCUUAUGAACACAGUAAGGAACCCAAAAGAAAUUGCAACUGAGUUAUGCUUCAUUUCCAGGUUGAGGGACUUCUAUCAGGAGAGGUAUGUUAAAUCACUUCAGAGUGAGAAAAUGACUUUAUGCUGCCGAUGUGUAUAAAUUGGCCGCUAUUCUAUUCCCUCGUGUCGGCAAACAUAGAAGAGUUCGUCAAUACCUAAUGGAGAGAAGAACUUCUAGUAUUUUAAAAUCUAUAAAUUAUCUAUUUUAAUUGUCUCCAUCAAUAUGGCUUUUAAACUUCUCAAUGAAUUAUUAAUUUAUUCUAUUUGAUACAUUUCAAAGUUUGUGCAAUCAUCACUGCUUAUUAAAAACUAUAUAUGCCAUGAAUGUAGAAGGCAAAAUUUGAGCAUACAGAAUAUGGAAUUCUAUUUGAUGGACCAGCUUUCACUUGUGAGUCGAUGGAGCAUGUGGAUGCUCACUUUCAGAGAGUCAAGGGGCAGCUCGCAUCCCUCACAUCUUGGAAGAUGUCGCAGGGUGCUUCCAGCUCUACAACUCCAUCUGAUCUGGACUUUUUGAUACUUUAUGUUUUUUUUUUUUUUUUGGUGGAUAAGCUUAUUUUGUACACCUAACCCAUCUUGGCUCAGUUUAUCAUAUAUUUUGUUUGUCUAGAUGUACUUUUAUUUUCUUAUCUCUUGUAUCCAAAACCUUUUUUAUCAUAUAUGUCCAUGUGUUUGCUUUUCUUUUCUUCUUUUUGUAUGCUUACUGCUUCAUCAUGCUUUUUGUCAUUUUUUUUGCAACAAAAAAGGGGAAAUGGAUUGUUGAUUUGAUUGAGUGUUUUGAUAUUCAUAUUUUUUUGACAUCUGUUUCAUGACUUGCAUCCCCUUACUCGUUUACCUGAUUUGAUAAAAUUGAUCAAUUAUCUUUCUUCCCACACACUACUUUACCUGGGUAUGUUGUUUAGUGUGUGCAAGUUCUAGGUACUAGGGUGUUGGUCAUUUUUUGGAUGUGGCUUCUAGUCCUUUGCACGAUAGAUGAUGAAUUGGUUUAGACAAGAGGUAUUGAGAGAGAUUUGUAAACUCCAUUUCAGAGUAUUGAGGGGUUUAUGCAAUUUGUAUUUUAUCACAAAAUUGCCAAAGGGAGAGAUUGUUCGUACAUUAGGUGAUGUAGUUUAAAAUUGUCAAUUUUGUUCUAUUCAUUUUGGUUUAGGAUCUUUCUAGAUUGUGUUUCAUUCCCCAUUGAAGACUCAAGGUUAUUAAUUGAUCAACCAAGAUUACAUAGGUAAGUGUAAAAAGAUUUAGGAAAGGGAAGUUAGUGUUUGGUAUGACAUGGCAUGGAUUGAGUGGUUUAAAAUUGAGCAAAAUGAUUUUCUAAUUGGGUUUAAAAAAUGCUUAAAGUGCUCAAGCACUCUAAGAGCAUUUGAGCUCUAGAAAAAAAAUUCUCUAGAAUUUUGGAGAUCUGUCUUUCUAUUUUUAAAGGAUUUAUUUUGAGGAACUUUUUAGAAUUAGUCCACUAGGUUCCUAAGCUUAAAUAUACAUUGCAUAAAAAGGUUUUUGGUUUGAUGCUUUUGAGUUGAAAAACCUAGUUUUUCUUAUUGUUUCCAAAAUUAUAGAAGAAACAUUCAUAUUUACUUCUGCCUAGUUGAGAAGGAGAUUUGUAUCCCCCUCAAGUGCUGAAGUGAGAUCCUCUAUGAGCACAUGAGAUGUUGCAUUGUGGACGCAAAACACAGUGUAGGUGUUAGGUAGUAAGUCUUAGUAGUAGCUUUCAUCAGGUAAAAUUGAGUACAUACCUCAUUAUAUAUGAUGGACAGCUCCUCAAAUGCAUAUCCUACAAUCAAAAUCAAUUGAUUCUAAAUUAACACCCAACCCAUAUUUCAAACAAAAUCUUGCAAUUUCACAUUUUGAGCACCAAUCCAUGAAAAUGGUGUUUUUGGGGAGAAAAUUCAAUUGAUUUAGGAGCAUAUUAGAUCUUACCCUUCCCCUCUUGAGACUUGAGACUUAGGAGUAACCUAUUUUCAGAUAGAUUCAAUAUCACUAAUUGAUUAAUUUUUAUGUACAAUAUGUUUUUCUAAAUUUUUAAAAAUUCCAUCCUUUUAAUUCUAUUAGAAUAACGUAAAUCAUAUGGAAGUUAGAUUCUAAAUCUCAAGUCUUCACAUCAUCAAGUAUCAACUAUAAGAACUCAAACUCAACACUUUAGUGGCUCUAAAGAGUCUAUUUUAGUGCAUUUGAGGUAUUUAAAAAUGACCUAAUGCUUGGUUUUUUUGUUAUUAAUGCCUUAGCCAUUUGUUUUUGAUAUUUUUUUGUGAGUAUUUUUAGAACUUUAAAGUAUUUUGAAAAUGAAGUGGACUUUGUGGAGGAUUCUCAAAGAAUAAAAUGCCUAAGUAGAGAGCAAGAACAAAUUGUAUACCUUUUAAGUACACAGGAUUCUAUUGUGCAUCUCGCUAGUGUGCCACCAAACUAGAUUGCACAUUCCCUCUAACAAUUUAAAUUGAGCACCUUCCCUAUGAUUCAAAGGUUGCAUACCCCUCAACAAUUGAACCUAACAAGAGCACUCAAGUUGUGCAUGUCCAUAACAUCUUAAUUGCACUUUUCCCUACCGCUACAGUAGUUUAUCCCUAGGGUCACUCACCAUGCAAUGUCACACCCCAAAACCCACUCCAAGGGCAUGAAGAUCUUUUCACAGCUAGCUCAAGCCCAAGGGCUUAAAGUGGAAACAACACAAACAUUUGUAUUGUAACUGAAAAUUUACCAAUUACCAAAUUCUUGUUCAAAGUAGUAGGACAAAAUUCUAAAAUCUCCAAGUAUCAACUUGAAAAAAAAAACUAAUACAUCAACCAAAGUGUUAUUGUCCAAAUAACUUUCAACUCAAAAUAAUUCAAAUGAGAAUUAAGCUUUAACAUCUAAACAAUGUCCAAAAUAAAGAGAGUUUAAACAAAUGUUAUAACAAAGCCAAAUUUCCCUCUUAAUGGUCACUCCUUGCCAGAACUGAGGUUGCCUAAAAGAUUAUCAAUGAAGAGAGGUAAGCUCAAAGGCCAAUAAGGAACAUUAAUACAAUUUUAUGGAUCAACAUUUUCAAUUAUGCUUGCAAAUAGGAGAUAUAACAUAUACUUAUUUUCAUAAAAACUUUUGAGUUCAAAAUGCUAAUACAUUCAAACUUUUCAACAAAACUUUCUCAUAUCCAUUUCAAAACAAUUUCUCAUCAAACCAAAUCAAAUACAUUCAAAAUAUCUUUACUCCAGUUAUCGUGUGACAAAUGGUGCCCAAUUAGGUGGGACUUUGCAAUUGAGUAACUAGUUUCAAAUUUGUUCCAUUUAAGGUGAACAAAACCAAAUGUCAAGAAUUAUAACCCAUUGACUAAGGUCAUAUAAUAUCAACUAUUAUAACCUGUUGACUAGGGCCAAAAAUGUCAACUAUUAUAACCCGUUGACUAAGGCCAUAUAAUGUAGAGAGUCAAAUACUUUAUUUCAUUAAUUCAAACUUACAAAACAAAACAUCAUAUCUCAAAUUUUCAUUUUUCAUAAACAAAGAAAAUACUCAAAUAUACUUUCCAUACAAGACAUAUAUUUGAUCCGUGCUUAAAGAUAAAAAUAAUAUUUUUAAACAUUUCAAAAUAUAAUAUAAAAAGAAAACUAUUUUCUUUUACAAAAAUCUGCAUUAAUUUCCUUUACUUGAAUAAGCACUCAAAAUCUUGAAGUAUUUAGCUUUGAAGAAUUUCCUCCUCACCUAACAUAAUAUCAUACACAAUAUUGAUUAUUGAUUAUUUAUCUAAAUAUAUAAAUUUGACAAUCCUAAAAAUAUUUUAUUUAGUAUUAGGGAUCCUAAUUAAUUUCUCAUGUUAAUAUUAUUACCAUCCAAUAUUAUUUUCAACUUCCUAAACAAUAAUUUAUUUCUCUUCUCUAACUUAUCUAAAUUAAAUCUUUUAAGAAUAUUUAUUUGCAUUAAACAUUAUUACUAUUAUUUAAAUCUCCUACUAAAACUUAACAAAUACCCCAUGCAAUUCUUUAUUUUUUUCCCAACAACUCCACACCAACUCCAUUCAUUAUUAUUAUUUCUUUUAUUAUUAUUAUUAUUAUUAUUAUUACUAAUUUCAAUACCCAAUAACACCUUAACCUAUUUCUCUUCCAAGCCAUCAACGUCCUUUUCUUCCUCAUCGUUUACCAAAAUACUAUUUACUUCCUUUCCUAGGUCAACGUGCUGACCAAUCCUUAGUUUUUUUUUUUUCAACAUGCCAAAUCCUUCCUACCUACAUGCAUCUUUCAUCAUUUUUUUCUCCUCUCUAAGGUCAAAACUUUUAAUCUCCAUACUCACAAAUUUUAUGUAAUUUUCACAUCUGAAACUAUAUAUAUAUAUAUAUAUAUAUAUAUCUAGAUCUAUUCGUUUGAGUAAUCAAAAUUUGUCGAUCUCCAUUAAUAAAUCAAACUAUGUUCAUAUUUUUUUUAUCUUUUUGACCUAGAAAUUAAUUAAAUGAACUCUAAUCAAAAUUGAAAUAUUCCAAAGAAUAUCUAAAGUGUUCAAAACUAAUUAACAAAUAUAAAAUAUUAAUUUAAGGAUUAAAAAUCUUACUUGAAAAAUUGAUCUUCAAAUCAUAAACCUCCAAAUCUUCAACCGUAUGCUCUCUAAUAUUUCAAAUCUUUAUGUAAAAGGGUUUUCUGAAUAGAGAGGAUGGGAAAAAUCUAAUUUAUACCUAGGAGUUUUAAAUACAAAAAGACCUUUUUACCUUUAUUAAAUUACUUAAUUUAAUUAUUAAUUUCUAAAUUAUGAUUUUACCCCUAAAUUGGGUUUAGGGCAUUACAUUCACACUGUUCCCACUCUUGCAAAGGUUGCACACCUGAGAAAACUCCUUCCAAUGAUUUGUACACUCACCAAAGUAAUGCAAGCAUCUAAGCCUUAAGUCAUCAUCUAUACUAUCAAUUCUCCCAUACCGAUUGCAUUGAAAGCCAAGUGCAGCCACCAACUCCAAGCUGACAAGUCAAGUACAAGAAAGAUGGCUAGUUGACUACAUUGACACAUGAUAUGAUCCCCAACAUGAGCAAGAGGCAGUUCUAGGAGAAUAGUUUGAGCAAUAAGAAUGGAUUACCUAAAGGGAAACCCAUCUAUAAAUAGAGGAUUGUCUGGGCACGCGUGCGCAUACACACACACACACACACACACACAUAUAUAUAAAUAUGUAUGUAUGUAUGUAUGGGGAGAAGAAAAGAAAAGAAAAAAAGAAUGUUGAAGAGUUUGAAUCUUUAAUGGAGAUGAUAUUAACCUUUUUAGGAUUUAGUUAGGAAUUUAUUUUGGUAAUUAAAAUGACAAUUAAUUAUUUGGAUAGGAUUUGUUAGGUAGUUUCCUACUUCUUUCCAUAUAUUUUCCUUAUGUUUGUAGGUUUCCUACAUUAUAUAAAUAGAGGACAUUUUCUCUUCUUUUCUCUAUGAAUGAAUAUAUGACUAGGUAAAAUUAAGCUAUAGGUUUCUUAAUUGUAUCAAAGCCAAAUUCUUAUUACUAGGAAUAAUGGUUAAAAUUACAAUGAUAGGUGCUUCCAAUUAUGAUAACAACUUGAAGGAGGCAGAAAGAAAACCUAUCCCUCAUUAGAAUUUUGUGACCAAUGGUCAUGGUCACUCUUCUUAGCUAAUUACCUCUCACAAACUAACUUAAUGGAGAAAAUUAUCUUGAAUGGUCUCAAUUUGUCUAACCUUUCAUUCGUGGGCAUGGACAAAUUGAAUAUUUUAUUAGAGUAACAUCAAUACCACAAGGAACAAUUCUCAUCGAGACAUAGGAAGUAGAGAAUGCCAUGAUUAUGUCAUGGUUGAUCAACUCAAUGGAACUCAAGAUUAGGAAGACAAACAUGUUCAUGCCCAUAACUAGAGAGAUCUAGGAGGCUACCAAGGAAACCUAUUACAACUUGGUAAUUUGCUCAAGUCCACAAGAUAGCCAUACAAGUAAAAAAUACCAAGCAAGAUAAUAUGAAUGUAAUUCAAUACUAUAAUACACUCAAAACUCUUUGGUAAGAACUUAAUUUGUUCUAUGAUUAUGAAUAACAUUGUGCACAUGAUAGUGAAAUGUUCUAAAAGAUAUGAUUGAGAAGGAUCGAGUAUUUGCAUUCCUAAUGGGGUUUAAAUAAUAAAUUAGAUGAGGUUUAAAGUAGAAUUCUUAGUAGUGAAUAAUUCUAGCAAAAUCUAAUACCUCUUUACUUAACAUUACCCUAGUUGUAAAAAAACAGUAAGCUUCACAUUUCGACCAAUGAUCCAAAAUUCAAAAGUAUUCAUGGAAGGCCCUAGUGUGACCGUCAUCUCCUCUAAAUGCUUCCAGAAUUCAAAAUAUUCAUUGACAAGUGAUUAACCAUCAUCUUUUCCAAAUGCAUCUUUAGAUGUCAUAUACCCAAAGGUGUUCAAAUUCACAAGAUAUUGACCAAGUCUAGAUAUUAAGAAGGUAUAUGAUCCUCUACCAUUAGAAAGAAUAAGAUACAUUAUCCUCUACUAGUGAAAGCACAUAUGUCAUCAUAUCAACAAAUCAAGCAUGCGUGCAAAUCUAUCUUCUUGGUCUUCUAAUUGUGGUCAAGCAAGUAUUAAUGAAGUACUUAAUUUGAAGCAUCUCUUUAUCAUCUAUAGUGGUUGUAGUUGCUAAUCCAAUAAUUGUACUCCUUUAAAAGUGGUACAAAUUAUUCUUCCUUAUUCCUUGCAUCACGACAAGUUUACUUGGCAUAACUUUCAAAAUCCCAUCUUUUAUAGUAACAAUAUUGAACCCUAUGGGUUCUAAUACUCCAAUUGAGAUGAGACACUUAUUCAUACUAGGAACAUACCAAACAUCACUCAAAAUUUUAGUUGAUUCAUCGUGAGUCUUCAACUGGAUGGUAUUUAUUAUUGUUAUCUCAUAAGCAUUAUCAUUCCCCAUGUAAAUAACUCCAUCUUGUAGUUCUUCAAAGCAAGAAAACCACUCCUUGUAGGAAUGCGUGUCAAGGUGGACCCAAUAUCCAAAAUCCAUUCAACUAAGUUAUAAAACAAGGAUAAGCAAACCAAAGCAAAGUUUGACCCAUCUUUUCCAAACUUAGCCACACAAGCAUCGAAUACUAUUUCUUCUUUAUUCUUAUUCUGUAGCUUAGGACAAUCAUUAUUUUGACACUACCAAAACUUAAGUAUGGUUGACCCAUUUACAUUUAAUUUUCUAACAUAUUUAAGCUGACGGAAAUUUAUAAUACACCUAUUCCAUCGCAAAUUGAAUUGUCCGUCACUUAUAUGUAACUAUUUACCAACAGUAAUUGCAACAACAAAUACUUGUCGGCAAAAAUAUUAUUGCAAUGGAUUUAAACCAUUGCAAAUGUUCAACUAAUAUACUUUGUCACAAGAGCAAUUUACCUAUAAAAUAGAAAAAUAAAAAACAAACUUUCAAAAAUAAUUUUUUCUAUGAAAAUUACUACUCACUAAAACAGUUUUAUUAUAGUGGAUAAUAAUACCACACAUAAUUUGUUCCAAAAAUAAUUGUAGUUAUAUGAAUAUAAAAUCUUUUCACCAUGGUUUUAUGAUAAAUACGAUCUAGCUAGUGACAAAACAAUUUUAUGAUUAUUUUUUAGGUUCAUACAAUAUUUACAUUUUUUUUAAUCAUAAUAGUUUUAACUACUUUUUAUUGUCCAUUUUAGAAAGAAAUAAAUUAAAAAUUAUUGACAUAUAUAUAUAUAUAUAUAUAUAUAUAUAUAUAUAUAUAUGUAUGUAUGAUAUAAUUUAUGAUAUCGAAUAAUAAUAUUUAAAAUUUAAAAAUAUAUUUUAUAGAGAUUUAUCUAAUUUGAAUGUAUUCAAUAACAUAAAAAAAUGAUAGUACAUGUAUAAGUAUUUUUAUUUUAAAAUGUUGAUAAUUUUAUUUAUAAAUUUAUAUUUAAUUAUUAUACAAAAUAAACAAGAAUCAAAAUUAAUUAAUUUAUAAUAAUUUUAUUUUAACUAAUUUAUAAUUUAUAUAUAUAUAUAUAUAUAUAUAUAUAUUAAUUCAUGCAUGUAUAAUUUAUAUAUAAUAUGUAUUUAUAUAUAGAUAAUAUUUAUAAUAUAAAUGCAUAAGUAUAUAAUAUUUACAUUUAUGAAUCUCAUAUACAUUCUUUAUAUUACACAUAAAUAAGAUGACUUGGUGGCAUAGUUGCUUCCUUUCAAACUUGAGGUCAAGGGUUCAAUCUCAAGAAACAACAUCCAAGUCAAUAUCCAAAAUUAGCAAGGAGAGGAGUGUACAAGAUGCUCCAUGUGAAUGUAAUGAAAUCGAAAUUUCAUGACAACCUAAAAUCUUUUAUUAUUUAUAUUUCUCAACCAACUUAAUUUGUUGGUAAUAGUGAUGGUCUAAAUCCAUUGGAUAGUUUGUCACUAAAUAUUUUUUAUUGGCAACGGAAAAUUCCCAUCAAUGGACUUUUGCCAACACACCUUUCCUCGACUACCAUGCGAUGGGAUUAUUGAUUGGUAAAUAUUUAUUUCGACUGUGUAUAUUAGUUGAGAAAAGUCAAAUUUCUUGUAGUGCGGUGACCCUUGUCAUGAAAAAAGACGCAUUCAUCUUUUGCAAGUAUACAUUUAAAUUAAGAAUUGUCUUCUUUUCUAAGUUUUCAACUUUGAGAUUAGUCAUUAACUGUUAAAGCUUCCAAUGAUAUAUCUCUAUGAUCGCUUUGGUCCUUCUUCCUUUAUUCAUAUAUUUGUCCUCCAAUGUCUUCCAUAAAUGUUUUUGUGGAUAUCUCUUUCAUAAUGGAAUAAUUUUAAGCUUUAACAAGAUAUAAGUGGAUGGAACUAUAAAAUUGACAAUUGAUCCCUUACCCAUUCUUUAUCAUUCAUGUUUUCAAGUUUUUCUUCCAAAACAAUAUCCAAAUCCUAUUGACAUAUCUAAUUAAUGCCUCUUACUGCCACAUUCCAAAAGUACUAGUCCUAUCAAAUUUAUCUAUUAUAAAUUUUGCAUUAGUAACCAUAGUUUUAACUAACGAAGUUUUUACCUUUUCUUUUAACUAGUGCAAUAAAAAAUAAUCUUGAACUAAUCUUGAAACCAACCUUGGAUAGAACUAAUGCUCUUAUACCAUUUUGUUGUGCUUUAACCUAAUCCCACAUGCAAGACUUCCAAAAGUACCAAAUAAAAUACAAACUAAACUAGUCCAUAAUAUAAAGAGAAAUAUCAAGAGAAAUAAAAAUAAAGGAGGGUACACAAUAUUUAUGAGGUUUAGUAACGAUGUCUUACCUAUUUCACCGAACAAUGAUGAUCAAUCUACUAAUCUUCAAAUCAAAAUUACAAAAUCAAGUUGUGAAAGAUUGUCUCACAAAGUGGCUGCAAUUACAAAGAUUGACUGAAGCUACUCUAACAACUUUGCUAAAGUCAUUCUUACACUACUAUGAUGAAAAGACUUAAGACUCAUUUAUAGAACCUAAAUAAGUCCUCGAGCCUUGACAAAACUAAUUCAUAGUUCCUAUGGGACAAGGACUCCUAACAUAUAACAAAUUAUGAAAUCAUAAUCCUUAUAGGACAAGGAUCCCUAAAAUAUAUUAAACUCUUAAUUAAGCUAAAAGCCAGUACCUAAUAUAGAACCUAUACCAUAUUUGCUAUAACUCUACUAAGUAGAUGGUUGUUAAGAAGUAUUAUCACUUUCAAAAGUUAAAUAAUCAUUUAUUUUUCCUUCCCUUUCCACUUUUCUUAUCAUCCAGACAACAACAGUAAAAAAUGUAGUGUAACUUUUGUUACUUUGCUACUUGUUCUCUCAACUUACUUGCUUGCUUGUGAAUGACCUCCAUAAUCAAAGUAAAUGGAGAAAAAAUGUGGAGUUCCAAGAUAUAGGUAGAAAAGAGUGGAAAAAACCUUAGUUCUAUAAAAUAGUUUGCAAUUUUGUCUCUAGAUCUCUCAUUUUCGUGGUAAUGGCCAUUGAAGAUGUCAUCACUGAGAAGAUCACAAAGUGAAGAAGGCAUGACUGAGGGUUGGUAGUAUAGAGAGUUAAGGUAGAAAAUAGCAAAGAUAGGAUUUUGACGUUUUUAGAAUUUGUAAAUAAAAAAUAAAUACAAUCCAAAAAUCACUUUUAGAACAUGAUUUUACCUAACCAUGCCAAACAUAUUUUUUGUUAUGUGGAUUGUAUUUGAUGUUCUCAAAAACAUUGAAUACAUUUUGGAUUGACUAUUAAACACGACCUUAGUAAUUAAAUUAGCAUAUUGAUAAAUUAUCAAGAGGCUCUUAUCAAUUUGGUCAACUCUUAGAAAAGUGUUGUUGAAAACACUAAAUACAAUCUAUAUAUAUAUAUAAAAAAAUGAAACAUGAAUUUACUUGACCAUACCAAACACAUUAUUUUUUAUUUGGAUUGUGUUCAGUAUUUUCAAAAACACUAAAUACAUGCAGUUUGAUUGACUACUGAACAUGAACUUAGUAAUUAAAUUAGAAAUUUCAAAUGAAUUAAUGUCUUCUAUUUUGCAAGCAAGUCAAGAUUUUAUGUUUUCUACUAAAAUUUUAAAUGCAUCACUAAAAGUAACAUCACCACUUUCUAGUUAUAAAGUUUUGAGAAGAUAUUUUUUAUCAACACAUAUAGUUGUUUGCUUUCAUGUCAAGAUACCAAAUACUUUUUUCGUAAAAUUUUUCCUUUUUAUGCAACUAAUAAAGUGGGGUUUUUUUCUUGAUUCAUUUUUUAACAUAGUUUUCCAUUCUACACUGUUAAUAUACCAACACUUUUCAUUUUUUCUUGAAUUUUGGAUGUUCCUUCAUUGUAUGAUGGACAAUUUCCUUAGCCACAACCAUGAUGACCAUGACCAUGACAAUGAUUAUUUUGGCUUCCUUCAUACCAAAUUUUUUUCCCCUCUUGUUGAUAUAUUAAACUAUGUUGACAAUUUUCUUUUAUUUAUAUAGUGAGUCUAAUACAUCAUACUUCCAAGGGUCAUAUUGAUGUCACUCAACUUCAAGCUACUUUUGAGUUAACUAUAUUACAAGGUAUAUGUGCAACAUUAGGUUGAAUUAAGGCACAAGGAAUGGCUACCACAUGUAUGCUAGGUGAAAUAUUAGAGUUUUUUUUUUUUUUUUUGUCAAGGAUAAGGAUUUGAGUAACUAAAGCCUCAAUAAAGUCUUUAAGAUAUCCAUUAAGGAACACAAGGAGUGUUGCAUGGGGGCGUGGAAGAAGAAUAUAAGUUAUGUGUAUCUUGUCUUUAUAUUUAGUAGAUUGUUUGUGGUUGAUAAACUAUUCAUGUAAUGACCUGCUCCCAACCGUGUAGAUAUUGUCCACUUUGGACCUAAAGGGGCCCUCACGGCUUUAAAAUGCCUUUAUAGAGUUAAGAUAAGUCCAUACUUAUAUAGCGCUAAGAAAUUUCCCCCCUAUUUGAUGUGGGAUGUUAGAAACACCCCCUUCCCUAUGUAGACACAACGUCCUCGUUGUGUCCUAUGGGAUUGUAGGGCCAAACAAAUGAACACCCCUACAAGGCCAAACAAACCCUCAAACCGAGGUUGAAGAUCGGCUUUGAUACCAUUUGUAACAACCCAUUCCCAGCCAUGUAGAUAUUGUUCGCUUUAGGCCUAAAGGGGCCCUUACGACUUUAAAACACAUCUACGAAGUUAAGAAAAGUCCAUACUUAUAUAGCGCCAAGAACUUCCCCCCUAUCCAAUGUGGGAUGUCACAAACACCCCCAUCCCCCACCCCAUUAUAUAAAUAUAUUAUUAUUAUUAUUAUUAUUAUCAUUACUUUCAAAAAACCCUACAACACCAUUACUCCAAGCCACCAACUACACUCAUUAUUAUUAUUAUAAUAAUAACACUUUUUUUUUCUUUUGUUUCUUCCUUCAUAGACGUCCACAUGCAUUUUUUUUUUCUUUUUAGUUUGUUUGUGACAUCCCACAUCAGAUAGAGGGAAAGUUCUUGGCGUUAUAUAAGUAUGGACUCCUCGUAACCCUGUAGACGUGUUUUAAAGUCGUGACGGCCCCUUUGGAUUCAAAAUGGACAAUAUCUACAUGAUUGGGAGCGGGUUGUUACAAAUGGUAUCAAAGUCGAUCCCCAACCUCGGUGAGGGGUUUGUUUGGCCCUGUAAGGGUGUUUGUAUGUUUAAACCCACAAUCCCGUGGGACACAACGAGGACGUUGUGUCUGCAUGGGUGUUGUUUGUGACAUCCCACAUCAAAUAGGGGAGAAAGUUCUUGGCGCUAUAUAAGUAUGGACUCCUCAUAACCCUGUAGACGCAUUUUCAAAUUGUGAGGGCCUAUUUGGGUCCAAAGAGGACAAUAUCUACACGGUUGGGAGCGGGUCGUUACAUACACAUAAAUUUCAUGAAAGUCUUGCAACAUAUAAGGGGUAGGCCUUGAAGUUACAGUGAUAAUUUAUUCCACUAAAAAAUUUGAUCUCUACAUUGAUAUCAAAUUUUUUUUUUUUUUUGGGAGUAAUAGGGAUAAAUACACAAAUAAUAGUACUAUUAAAAGAGAUAAGUAGAUGAGGAAAUUAAAAGAAAUUUAUUGUGUUUUAAUACAUUAAUUGAAGUAUUAUAUACACAACUCCAAUUACAAUAUGUUUUAAUACACUUUUAAAAACCAAAUCAAAUGUAAUUUUUGAAAACUUCUUGAAACUCAAAUUUAGAUUUCAACGUGUGAUUGAAUGAUAGGGAUGAAAAAAAAUAGGUAAAUAAAACAUAUGUAAUAUUAUUGUAUAUUAUUAAUCGCUUCCAUACCAUUAGCAUAUCAAUGGCAUCUUGCUAAGAAGAAGAACCACCACAACAAUCCAUUAUAAUAGUUUCGGAAUGAAUGACAUUUAUUUGUUUGUAUUCUAUUGUUUUUCUAUUUACGUCAUAUUCACAUGAAUUGACUUUUUGUUUAGAGUAGUGUUUUAGUAGAGUAUUCGUAGUACACCUAGAUAUCUUUCUAUGCUAUCAUAAAGUAGCUGAUUGCCCAUGAUUAUGCAAUGCCAUCAUAAAGGAACUGAAUGGCCAACACACGUACAUGUGAGGUACCAUAUUUUUUAAGAAAGACAAGUCAGUUUGCAAUUGAUGUUAAUAUCUUUCCAAGGCAGAAACAUCAUUUUGUAGGUAUAAUUGAAUUAGUUAAACUCAAACCCCAAUUGACAUUCUUUCAAGUAAAAUCAUUUUUAACCUAUAAUGCUCAACACUUUUAUGAGAAUCAUAAAAGUAUCAGAAUCAUAGAGAAUUAUUGAAAGUGAUUUUGUAGUGUUGUUGAUAAUAUGUCACAUGACUAUAAAAAUGCUUUUAAUAUUAGCAAAUUAUAAAAAAGGACAUCAAAUUUAAUUACAAGGAAAUAUUAUAAUAAACUAAUACUUUUUCGUGAUAAAAGAAUAUAUAAACAUUUAUAGUAAAAGAAUAUAUAAACAUCUAUAUUACUAACAAAAACUAAAAAAUAAUAGUUCUUGUGAUUACAAGAAAAUUUUAGAAAAUAUUUACAACAUGAUUUGGAUUAAUAAACAAACAUCAAUAAUAAUAUAAUAAUUUUUAAAACAAAAAAAAUCAUUUGAUUAUUUAUUCACUUAAAAAUAAUAAUUUUUAUUACUACAAAAUUUUGAAAAAUACUUACUAAAAAUCUAGAUUAAUAAUGAAAAAUUGAAUAAAAACAUAUUAGUUUAGUUUCUAAAAAAAAAAAAAUAGUAAUUGAAAGCAAAUGAGAAAACAAAUUCUCUCAUAGUAAAAAAAUGAGAAAAUUAUAUAUAUUUUUUUCAUAUUAGUGUUAUAAUAAAACAUCAACAAGAUAUAAAACGACUAGCAAUUCGAUCACGUUUUUCUUACAUCUCUCUUGCAUGAUAGAACCAUCUUUCUCAACUCAUGAAUCCACUCUACUCUUUUUUUUUUUUUUUAUUGAAACAGAUGUAACCCUUGAUCAUCAUCAUAAGGUUUAAAUUUCAUAUAUAUCCUAACAUUAAUCAUUAUUAAGUUGUAAAAACCAUCAAAGUAAUAACAGUGUUGACUUAUUUUUCAAGAGGAAAACUAUGCAUUUCUCAUAUUGUUCCACAUCUAUUCUUUAAAAAGGCAAAUGUUCAAUUGUUCUUCUCAAAGAUGUCUAUGGUUAAAUAUUUCCUUCUUACCUCUUGGUAAACUACUCUAUCGAAAUCUAAAAGAUGGUAACACUCGCCCUUUAAGGGCCUAAUUAUAUAUCCACUCAUUUAAGGAUAACCAACAUUGAGUAAAUAAUAUUUACCUACAAAAAAAAAAUUAAAAUUAUAUAAGAUUAUGAAAAUCUAAUCACAAAAGUAACUUUCAUAUUUUUAGUCACAAAUCUCUAGAAGGAUGAGGAAAACCCAAUUCUAGCAUUUUUUUUUAAUGCCUAUGAAAAGACGCAUACAUCAUGAGCAAAACCUUCCCAUCUAGCCAAUGCAAAUGUGAAAUACAUAUUGAAAUAAUAUAUGACCAUAAUAUUUUAGGUAGUUAUGCUUUUUGUACCAAUAUAUGAUAUUUGCCUAUCUAUAAAAACCAUAAUGGGCAUAUGAGUUCCAUCAAUUAACCCUGUACAAUUCUUAAAAUAUUGCCAAUAACGUCUAACAUUUCUUAUUUUAUCAAGGAUCUCCCUAAACUAUGAAUCACUUGGUUUUAUAUAUCCAUAGCUAUAAGAUAAACAACAUAUAAUAUAAUCUCAAACCAUCUAGAAAUAAAUUCAUUGGAGUGAUAAAAUCUUUCUUAGGUUGUCAUGUUGCCAAGUUUAUGGCCAAUUGUAGUGAGAAACAUUGCUAAAGCCUCUAUUAAGGGAAUAUCUAAACCUUCUCUUAGACCAUGCCUUUUAAUAAGUGUUUCCAAUAAUUAAUGCAUACAUGUUUUUCCAUUCUAAAUUGCUCAACUAUAAUUUUGAAAAAGUUCUACAAGGUUUUUAUUUUUUGUAGUUAGUAACUGUUAUAGGUAUAACACAUCCAACCAACACCAAUUGAUAAAAAUCAUUUCAUCACUGCGUUCAUCUUUAAUAUCAUGAUUGCAACUAUUAUUAUAAUUAGAAAACAUAAAUACAAAAAGUAAAAAUAAGAAAUACAUUAAAAAAACUAAUAAUGUAUAUUAUGUUAAUAUAGCUUAAACUAAUGCAUGUUUACUAAAAUAAAAGGAUUUUUUAUUUAAAAAUUUAUUUGAACAUGCAAAAUCAAGAGUAGUAGUAGUAUGCAAAAUAAUAGCACUGAAAAGUAGUAAGAGUAGAAAUACAUGUAAUCGUAUAAUUCUAUUUUUCCAUAAUAAUAAUAAUAAUAAUCUAGCUCAUGUGGGUCACCCUAGGAUAGGACUCCUCCCAUAACACCCCUAUUUUCAAUCCAUUUAUAUUCUUAAUAGUUUGACUAAAUAAAAUUUUAAAUUCAAAAGUGUUGUAUUGAGAAAUCAAAUACAUUAUAAAGCUCAUCUAAUUAGGAACUUGACUGAGACAAAAUUUUAGAUUCAAAGGUGUUGUGUUGUGAAAUCAAAUACAUUAUAAAGCUCAUCUAAUAGUCACAACUUUUAGAGAAAGAAACAAUUAAAUAUACCAUGUGAUAGACAUAUAUGUCUUCCUCACUCAAAAAGUUUACUCAAUACCAACAUACAAAUCUUAUUUAAAACAAUAUUAGGUAGCAAAAUAUGUUUCAACAUUAGAAUAAGAAAUAACUCAAAUAGUGAAACAUAUUUAUGCUUAUUUCAUGCAAUUUGAUCAAUUGAGUUUUCUAAUGCUAGAAACAGCUCCUUAUUUCCCUUGACAACUUGAAUAAUACAAUUUAAGGUCAUUCUUCACUUCAAGCAUGCCACAUAUAACUUUUAUUACUUUAACAAUAGCCAGGCUUAUCUACUCUAGAUGUAACUUUAAAAAUGGCCUCUAACUGCAUAGUCAAAAAACAAGAUUUGGUUCCAUCUCUUAUCUUCUUUCUUAUUCUCUCAUUUUGCUAUGAAAUUUAUUUCCUUGGGGUUCUCCUACAAAAGUAUUCAAUUUAUUAUAUUUCACGACCAAAAUAUAAAUUAACCAAAUAAACUUAGUAAAUAAAUAAAAAUGUAUCAUCAAUUUAUUAUCCCACCAUUCAUUUUUAGCAUUAGUGGUUUCUCAUAGGAUCCCACCCAAGGCCAAUCUUUUUCUGAAUCAAGGCAUUCCAAAGUUGUCAAUCUUUUUUAAGAGAACUUAAUAUAUUCUUAGGUUGCUUGUAUUGGUAGGUUCUUCUAGUUAGAUUGUUGAAUACCUUUAUCAUUUUUUUCCAUCCAAUUUACUAAAGUGACUAUUUGGUCUAUUUUUAGCCAAAAUCUUAGCAACACAAACUGUGAGAUAUGCAUUAACAACAAUAUCAUUCAAUAUACUUUGCUUUAUUUAUCAUUUUCUUUACCACUUGUUUGUUGUAGUGGUUGAACUAUACUACUAGACAUCUAAUAACAAAGUAAAGAACAAAGAAGUAUUAAAAGAAAAUGUUGUCAAUGUACUUUUAUAUUUUAUAGUUUAGACAUCUAAUGAGACCCAUAAAAAAGUGAACCUUAAAGAAAUAGGUCAACUAGAGGAAAAUGAAUCUCAGAAUACUGAAUUGGAAAGACUCACAUUCAUGGAAUAAAUUAAUAUACUAUAUCAUAAUUUUAUUAAUUCUUUUCAUUAGGUUGCUAAAAGUUGAAAAAGAAUUCCUCAUGAAACAAAUUAAAUAAUUUCCUCAUGAAAGAAUCCAAUCAUGGCCUCAUUAUGAAGUAUUGAAUUAACUCAAAGAACUUAAAUAUUAUCUAAUAAAUUUUUUCAUGGGUUUGUUUUUAUAACUUUAAUGUUACCAAUAUAAAAGGAAAUGAAACAUGUUUUAAAUAAUGUAAGAAACUAUGGUAGAAACGUGGAAAGAUUUAAGGAUAAGAGGCUUUAUAUGAACUUUAAUAUUGUUAGUAACAGAGAGGCAAAUGAGAUAUCUCAAUAUUAAAUUAUGCAUAAUUAGUAUAAUUUUUUAAAACUAAAUGGAAGAGAAUUUAGGAGGAAAAUAAGUAAUUAGAGUAUGAGAUAACAUGAAUGGUUAAAAUUGCCAAUCAUUAAAUUUAAGAUAAUUGUUAAUUUUCCAACUCCAUUAAUUAAAGCAAAGAGGGGAAAUGAGUUGGAUUUCUUAAUAGUAUUAAGUGUUGGAUUGACACAAAAUUAGGGUGCUAGUGGACACUUGAAAUGAGGACAAAGUAACAAUUGCAGAUAGCAUUUUACUCAUCUAACAUAGUUAAAAUUUGCAAAACCCACUUCUUAUUUAGUACUUUUAUUGAAUAUAUGGGUAUAGUUUAACUUCGAAUCUAAUAUGAGUGUACUUUGAAUUUCCUAAAGCUUACAUAUAUCUUCACAUAUUAAAUCAAAGAGAAAAUAUUAACGUUUUUUACAAUUACAAUUUAUCAGGACUCAAGGUUUAAUUCCUAAACUUUUAAAGUGGGAAAAAGAAGUGUAAGGGAGAAAAAAGGAAAAGGAAAAGAAAGGAAAAACAAAAAGAAUAAAAAACUAUUAAAAGGCAUUAGAAGCCUAAGAUGGGCAUAUCCAUGAUUUGAGGUGCAAAUAGGGGUGACAAUUCAUGUUGGUGGAUAGUGUUUGUGUUGUGUCAAAGCCUAGGUAUUCUACUACAUAGCUCAACCCAACCCUGAUACUACUUAUAAUCAUAUAAAAAAUAUAAGCCUAAAUACUAUCUAAUUAUUAAACAAGUAACACAUUGUACAACCCGCUUAAUCUAUUUAAUAUUCAGGUCCUGCUAUUUAAUAAUCAAAUUAAGUUAGGUCUUCUAUAUGUCUAUAUGAUUAAUGCCUCAAUAAAAUAUGUUUUUGGCUCAAUUGACCUAUCUAUUUAGAAACAAAUUUAAAAUGAAUCAAAUAUGGGUCAAACAUCUUAAAAAUAUAAGUAAGUUAAUAGCAAGAUUAUUAAAUAGGUUAAUUUGGGUCAAAUUCGUAUUAUGCAGGUUGACCAAAAAAGUACUUAUUUAGUAAAUGAGUUAUGUAAGUCGACACAAAUUUUACCUAAACUCAUUUAUACUUGACCCAAACCCAUGAAAAGCAUGUUAGGCUUGUAUCAUGCUAGGAAUUGUAUCAAACUUUGUCAUUCCUAGGUGCAAACAACUCCAAGACCCUACUUUUAAGGAGAAUAUAUAUACUUGAGAUUGCUACAUGAUUACUACUCAAAAUGUGCACUUUUAUAAGCUUAAACUUAAUUGUACUAAGCACUUUUGAGUAGUAGUUAGACCUUUUUAUCCCAAUUGUCAUGUUAAGGACCUAGAAAAUGUUACUAACCAAUUUCUAGUAAGUUUUAGUGUUUUUGGUAGUUUUUUUAUCACUGAAGCAGGCCAAGAUUGAGGGAGAUUUUUGUGCAAGCUAUGGCAAGGCAAGUUAAAUAUCAAUCACAUGAAGAAUCCGAGCUUCGGAGCACUUCAAAACCCUUGCCAAACUUGGAAAGGGAUUGGAAAAGUUAUCAGUAGUAAGAUGGAGGAAAACAGAGCAUUUUGCAAGGCAAAAUCAUCAAUUUUGUAAGGCAGGGUGUGCCAAACUUUUGCAAGGUGUGCCAAAAUUUCGCAGGGUGUGCAAAAAUCAUUUUGUGCGCACCGACCUUCUGGAUUUUUCUCCAUAAUUGUAAUUGUUCCUUUUUACUCCUUUUGUAAUAGAUAAAAGACAUUAGGGUUUGUUUAGGAACUAUAAAUAGGGGUUCGAAAGCCUCUCAAAUGAUGUGAGAUAUUAUGUUUUAGAUAUUUUGUAAAGGAGUUUUGAAGGAAAUAUAUGGAAGUUUUUCUCGGCCUUUCCUUCUCAUUUUCUUUUCAUAUUCUCUCUAGCCAAACACCCUCUGAGGAUGAUUUCUCAGAGGAUGAGUGGCUAAGUUUCAAGUUUCUUGGAGUGAUGGAAGCUAGGUAAAGGACCUAGAUGCAAAGGUGGGAGUUUUCCUUACUUUAAAUGAAGGUAGUUGUGUAUCAUUAAUGGUUUAUAUUUCAAGUUUCAGCUUUAAUCCCUUAGAAUCACCUUGAAUGGCCAAUACUUGGUAAGCUUUUAAGAUUCUGUGGAUGCUUAUUGCUAGAUCCAUGGAUGUCCAUUAUUAUCAAGUACGAGCCAUUGGAAGAUGGUUCAAGGUGAGAGUCUUUAGUGUUUGAAGCCAUUAAUGGGAAGCAACUACCAUUUUUCAAUAACCCUUUGGAUCAAAACUUAUUUGCUAAAUACAAAUCCGGUUCGGGAGAUAACCAUCCUUUAUGUUAUUGUCCCCAAUCCGAGGAGAAGAUUCGGAAUUUCCCACUUUGCAACAGGAACCUGAUCCUAGUAACCUAUAGCUCCAAGAGACUUUCUCUUUGUAGUAAUUUCAAUUGUUUAUGUUUGCUUAACUUAAAACCAACCCUUCCAAUCAAUCUUAUUUUCAUUUAAAAACUAAAUUCCAAAAAGGAAAUCGUCAUUUCUUCUUUCAUUAAUGUUAAGUGUACAAAGAAAACCCAUCAUUGUGGACGAUCGUAGAGCCACUAUACUAUAGUAGCUUUGUCUUUGCUACCCUAGUAUAAGGUGUUGUAGUUUUUAUAAAUGUUUUGAUAAACACCCGGCUGGGCAUGAAUCACUACAUUAUUUAGACUAAUCCACACCUACUUAUUAAGGGAAAAAAAUAAAAGAGGACAAAGGUAGGGCACAAGAUGAUGAGACAAGGCACAAAAUGAUAAGACGUAGGAUGAUAAGAAUCCACUUCAAUUAAUAUUUCCCUAAAUCAAGAGUAAUCAAAUAUUAAAAUAUUUUAUUCUCCUAAUUUAGGAUAUAAUAUUUAUUCUAAAUAAAUCAAGAGCAAUCAAAUAUUAAUAAUAUUUUAUUCUCUUAAUUUAAGAAAUAAUAUUUAUUUUCCUUAAUUAUAGGAUAUUUAUUAUUUAUUUCUUCUAUAAUUCACAAUGCAUUCUUGUAUAAAUUUAUGAAAAGAAAUAAUAAAAAUUCAUCGCUUCUAUUAUCAAAUUAUCAAAUUCUUCUUGGUAUUAGAGAUAGAGGAGGAGACUCAAACUUGGGUUUUCUCCGAAGGUGGUUGAAUACCCUAAAAGACUUGACCUAUCCACACAAACAAUGUCUUCCUCUUCAUUCAUUCAAAAAUAAAAUAAAAUAAAAUAAAAUCCUUAGUGCUCUAGCUUUCCAUCAACAUUUUUUCUAAUUUGAUUUCAUUCAAGCUAAACACAACAAAUUUUCUACUAUGGGGAAAUCAAAUCAUCCUCUCAGCUUGUGGUUUCCGUGUUCAAACCUUUCAUCAAUGUUUUACCCUUUCAUUGGUGUUAUUUCUAGUUUGAUUUCAAUCAAGUUAAACACCAUAAAUUUUCUACUAUGGCAAAAUCAAGUCAUCCUCUUAGUUCAUGGUGUGUUCUCUGACAUUUCUUAGGUGGAGAAAAACCUGCUAAAGAAUUAAAGAUGAUGAGGAAAGCAAAAUUUUUAUCCUACAAUACUAGUAAUCAAUUAAUAAUAACAUAUUUGUCACUUCAUGAGUUAUCGAAACCAUGACAAAAGACAUUUUCAUUAUGAUCCUUGGGGCUAACAAGAUAUAUAAGGUAUAAACUUUUCUUAAGGAGUAAUCGCUUCCUAUUAUAGUUGAAAAAAAAAUGAUAUCUUCAAGAAUAGUUAAGAGAUAUAAACAAUAUAUAUUAUAAUCUCAUGAAAAUCAAAAGCUAAUUUCAGACCAAUACAAAGUUUGUUGAUUCACUCAUGGUUUAGGAUAAUGGAAUGAUUUUUUUUUUUAACCUACUAUGCUUUUCUAACCAAUUCAUGGCAACUCUUUAGGGACAUAAGCAAUCACUCACUACCAAAGGGAUGGAAAGAAAAUUUUUAUAGAGUAUUCACAAAUUUUUAUUUGGACAACAUAGUUAUGGUCAUAAUGGUUGAAAAGGCAUAAAUUUUAAUUUGAGGGGAAGAAGCUUUACACUUUCUAUGUAUUACAAUUCUUUAAAAAAAAUAAACUUUUAUGAUUUUAUGAAGUCCUUGUCAAAGGAUAUCUUCAUCAUGUUUUGAGAUAAGCUGGGGUGUGCAUAUUCUUUUCGACUCCAAUUUGAGCUUGCAUAUUAAGGGAAAUAAUAAAAUAAGAUAAAAAGCACAUAGGAUUGCAACAUGUAGGAUGAUAAAAAUCCGAUUCAAUUAAUAUUUCCAUAAAUCAAGAGUAAUCAAAUAUUAAAAUAUUUGAUUCUCCUAAUUUAGGAUAUAAUAUUUAUUUUAAAUAAAUAAUGAACAAUCAAAUAAUAAUAAUAUUUUAUUCUCUUAAUUUAGGAAAUAAUAUUUAUUUUCCUUAAUUUUAGUAUACUUGUUAUUUAUUUCUUUGUAUAAUUCAAAAUGCAUUCUUGUAUAAAUUUUCUAAAAGAAACAAUAAAAUUCAUCAUUUUCACUACCAAAUUAUCAAAUCCUUUACUAAUGACCUUAUGAUUAAAAUCUUGUUUGUUUGGUAAGUGUUAAGCAAAAUGCCUUAGUAGCUACAAACAUUAUGGAAGACGUGUGAAAGUUGUUGUGAACUGAGGAAGCUUAAGAAUCUGUUAAGAAGGUUGCUGAGGUGUGAAGAGAUGUUGAAAUUGAGGCUGCAACCAUAAAACAACUUAGUCAAUGAAGUUGUUAUGCUAUUGUUGCUGUUGUUGUUAAAAUCUUGUUUCAUGGAGUUGUUAUGUUGUUGUUGUUAAAAUCUUGUUUCAUGGAGUUUUUAUGCUGUUGUUGCUAUUAUAUAGGAAAUAAUUGUUAGUUCCAACUAUUUUUGCUACUUUUCUAUUGUUUUCUGUUGCAAAUUUGUGUAUAAAUGUUGCAUUGAUCAUUCAACAAGAGUAGACAUUUUCGUUGUCUCAAAUACAACUUUUGGUUGUUACUUCCAACAUUUCUAGAUUCUAAAACCUAUAGAUUAGUAUCAGAGCCUUCAAUGUUGAGGAACAUGUGAGGAUUGAGUGAAGCCAAAAUACCUUCACACAUACUGAAACUCCAAAGCCAACAUAAACACACAACCUUUGACAGGUUGUAACUAUCAUUCUACAACAAAUGGAUGGAGAUACAAGCUUUCUGUUAGUACCAGUUUUCAAUGGUGAUAAUUAUCAGGCGUGGGCUAUUAGAAUGACAGUCCACCUUGAAGCUUUGGAUCUUUGGGAAGUAGUAGAAGAAGAUUAUGAAGUACCACCACUUGGAGACAAUCCAAGUAUCAAUCAAAUGAAGAUUCACAGGGAAAUAAAAACAAGGAAAGCCAAAGCCAAGGCUUGCCUCUUCUUUGCAGUUUCACCUUCUAUUCUCACCAGAAUCAUGCAAAUAGAGUUUUUUAUAGCAAUCCGGGAGUAUCUAAAAAAUGAGUAUUGGGGGAAUGAAAGGGUGUAGAAUAUGCAGGUAAUGAAUUUAAUAUGAGAAUUUGGAAUGAGCAGAAUGAAAAAGUCUCUAACUAUCAAAGAUUAUGUUGAACAACUGCUUAGCAUAGCAAACAAGGUAAGAUUGUAUGGUAAGGAAUUUUCUGAUGAAAGAAUUGUUAAGAAAAUCUUAGGAACUCUGCCUGAAAAAAUAUGAAGCCACAAUCUCUUCCUUGGAAAACUCUAAAGAUCUGUCAAGUAUAUCUUUGGUAGAAAUUGUUAAUGCUUUGCAGGCCUUGGAACAAAGGAGAAUGAUGAGACAAGAAGGAUAUGUUGAGGGAGCAUUCUAAGCCAAAUCAAAGAACAAUGAUUCCAGCAAAGACAGAAAGAAAAACAAGAAAUAGAAGUCAAGCAAUAACAAAAUGAAUCAGAAAGGAGCUGAUCCACCUUGCCCUUAUUACAAAAAAACAAAUCAUCCUCCACAAAAGUGUUGGUGGAGGCCAAAUGUCAAGAGCAACAAUUAUGGUCAAUUAGGCCAUAUGGAGGAGGUAUGCAAAAAAAAAAAAAAAAAAAAAAACAAACAAGGAGAGAUCAAGGCUACAAUUGUUGAUCAAUAUCACGAAGAACAAUUGUUUGUUGCCACCUGUUUUUCCAGCAAAAACAUGUUUGAAAGUUGGCUCAUAGAUAGUGGUUGCACAAACCACAUGACUUAUGAUCAAGGACUUUUUAGGGAACUCGAUAAAAUAACCGUUUCCAAAGUAAGAAUUGGAAAUGGGGAAUACAUCUCAGCAAGGGGCAAAGAGGUUGUUGCCAUUGAAAGUCUCUCAGGUUUGAAACUUAUCCCCGAUGUUUUGUUUGUUCCUAAUAUUGAUCAAAAUAUCUUGAGUAUUGGGCAGCUACUUGAGAAAGGUUUCAAGGUGCUAUUUGAGGACAAGUUCUGUAUGAUUAAGGAUGCAAAUGGAAAAAAUGUGUUCUAGAUCAAGAUGAGAGGCAAAACCUUUGCCUUGAAUCUGCUUGAGAAAGAGUAGGUUGUUAUUUCUCAAGAAAAUAAUGUCACAAUUUUAUGGCAUAAGAGAUUGGGGCACUUUCAUCAUAAUGGAGUGCUCUACAUGAAGAAUAAUCAACUUACAGUAGGUCUACUUGACCUAAAGCAAAAUCUUCCUACUUGCAUAGCCUGUCAGUAUAGAAAACAAUCCAGACUUCCUUUCCCAUAGAAAUCUACAUAGAGAUCAUCACACAUGCUGCAACUUGUACACAUUGAUGUUGGAGGACCUCAGAGAACACCAUCUCUAAAGGGCAGUAAGUACUACAUUGCCUUUAUAGAUGAUUACACCAGAUAUUGUUGGAUUUUUUUCCUAAAUUUUAAAUCUGAGGUUGCUGAUGUAUUUUGGAAGUACAAGGCCCUAGUAGAAAACCAAAGUGGUGUCGUCUUGUAGGUUAUAAGGACAGAUAAUGACACUGAAUAUACUUCUGAAAUAUCCAACAAUUUCUAUGAAGAAGUAGGCAUAAAGCACCAACUGACUACACUUUACAGACCACAACAGAAUGGAGUGGUGGAGAGGAAGAAUAGUGGAGAGGAAGAAUAGGACUAUAAUGGAGAUGACAAGAUGCCUUUUGCAUGAGAAAGGGCUACCAAAAAAGUUUUGGGCUGAAGCCACAAACACUAUAGUGUUUCUACUGAAUAGACUCCCAACCAAAGCUUUUAAAAAAAAGACUCAUUUUGAGGCUUGGUUUGGAUAUAAACCUCUAUUAUUAAACUUAAAAACAUUUGGUUGCCUUUGUUUUAGUUAUGUGCCUUAGGUGAAACAAGACAAGUUAGAUAAAAAGGCAGAAGUUGGGAUCUUCGUAGGAGACAACAACCAAUCAAAGACUUAUAGAGUUAAUAUGCCUCAUGCUAACAAAGUCAUUGUUAGCAUAGAUGUCAAAUUCAUGGAGGAUGAUAAAUGGAGUUAGGAUGCUAAAAAAAAAAUUAGAAUUUUGAGUUACUUGACGAAAAUAUUGAUGACAUUCCUAUAAGAAGCACCAAAUCACUUUUUGAUAUUUAUCAAAUGUGUAAUGUGGUUGUGUUUGAGCCUGUAGGGUUUAAUGAAGUUGUUGAGGAUAAAAAAUGAAGGGUUGUAACGUGGGAGGAGCUUAGAAUGAUAGAGAAAAACAACACUUAGGAGCUAGUUGAUAGACCAACACAUAAAAAGACCAUUGGUGUCAAGUGGGUUUAUAAAACCAAACUCAAUUCUGAUGGUUCUGUAAACAAACAUAGAGCCUGGCUGGUUGUCAAAGGUUAUGCUCAAAUGUUCGGUGUGGAUUUUUCAUAAACCUUUGCACCUGUAGCUAGGUUGGAUACAAUAAGGAUGCUGCUAGCUUUGGCUGCUCAAAAUGGUUUGAAAAUCUAUCAGCUAGAUGUAAAAUCAGCUUUUCUAAAUGGCUACCUUGAGGAGGAAAUCUUUGUAGAGCAACCUGAAUGAUUUGCAGUAAAAGGCAAAGAAGACAAGGUUUAUCAACUAAAGAAAGCCUUGUAUGACUUGAAGCAAGCCCCCAGAUCUUGGUACAACAGGAUUAAUGCACAUCUGCUUGGUUUGGGGUUAAAAAAAGUCAGAGUGAAUCCACACUUUAUAUUUGAAAAAUUAAUGCUGGCAUACUUAUUAUUUCAUUAUAUGUUGAUGAUUUGCUUGUAAAGGAAGCAAUCAAUUUUUAAGCUAAAAUAGAGAAGGUCUUUGAGAUGAAAGAUCUUGGAGACAUGUCUUAUUUUCUGGGAAUGGAAGUCCAUCAGAAUCAGCAUGAGAUAUUCAUCUAUUAGCAAAAGUAUGCAAAGGAAAUUCUAAAACAGUUCAAGAUGGAGGAAUGCAAGGCCACAUGCACACCUAUGAAUCAAAAAGAAAAGUUUUGAAAAGAAGAUGGUGCUAAAAAAGUAAAUAAAGAGUUAUACAGAAGCAUGAUUGGAUGUUUGAUGUAUUUGAGUACAAGAAGAACAAAUAUAAUACAUGUUGUAAGUCUACUCUCAAGAUAUAUGCAUUGUGCUAGUGAAAUUCACUUGUAGGUAGCAAAACGUAUUGUGAGAUAUAUAAAAAACACUAUCGACUUUGGCAUCAAGUUCAAGCAGGUGCAGAAUUUUCAUUUUCAUGGAUUUUAUGAUAGUGAUUGGGUUGGCUGCAUUGAUGAUAUGAGAAGCACAUCAAGUUAUUGCUUUAGUUUUGGUUCAAGUUUUUUUCUCUUGGUGCUCUAAAACAUAGGAUAUCAUGGCAUAAUCCAUAGUUGAAGCAGAGUACAUUGCUACUGUUGCUGCUGCAAAUUAAGCACUUUAGAUAAGAAAGCUACUAACAGACUUAAACAUGGAGCAAACUAGGAGCACACAAGUCUUUGAGGACAAUCAAGCUGCAAUUUCAAUUGCAAGUAAUCCAGUAUUCCAUGGUAGGACAAAGCACUUCAAAAUCAAGUUUUAUUUCUUAAGGGAAAUACAACUUGAUGGAGAAGUAAUUUUGGUACAUUGUAAAACAGAAGUAAAAAAUGUUAAUAUUCUAAAAAAAGCUCUACCAAAAGCUAGGUUUGAAUUUCUCAGAAAAAGACUUAAAGUUUGUAGCUCCCAAGUCAAGGAGGAGUGUUAAGCAAAAUACCUUAGUAGCUAUAAUCAUGUUGGAAGACGUGUGAAAGUUGGUGUCAACUGAGGAAGCUUAAGAAUUUGUUAAGAAGGUUGCUGAGGUGUGAAGAGAUGCUGAAAUUGAGGUUGUAACCAUAAAACAACUUAGUCAAUGAAGUUGAUAGAGUUUCAUGGAGCUGUUAUGCUGUUGUUGCUAUUUUAUAGGAAAUAGUUGUUAGUUCCAACUAUUUUUGUCGCUUUUCUAUUGUUUUCUAUUGCAAACUUGUGUAAAAAUGUUGCAUUGAUCAUUCAAUAAGAGUAGACAUUUUCGUUGUCUCAAAUACAACUUUUGGUUGUUGCUUCCAGCACUUCUAGAUUCUAAAACCUACAGAUUCUAUGAAUUUUAAUGAUAUUCCAUCAUUUCUAGGUCUCUCAAACCUUCAAUUUAGUAGGGUUACAAAACAUAGCAUCUCUAUUUGGCAUUUCAUCAAACGCCUUUCUCACUUUUUCUUGAUCCACAUGGGCAUAAAUCACUCUCAACUAUUAACACAAACAACAUAGAUUUUAGCUAAUUACAAACCAAAUUGAUAUAUCACCCCUAGUAGUUGUAAUUUCCUUCAUUAAUUGCCUUCCCAUUUCCACAUCUCUUUUUUUACGCAACCCAUAAAAAAAUUUCAUGAAAUUUGAGUCUAGGUAGGAGAAAGCACGAAUCUCAGUGCACAAAAAUUUGAUUUCAAUCAUUCACAAAAAAAAAUUAAUUUUAUGGAAAAACAUUAAAAUAGUAAAAUAACAAAUUGAGAAGGACUUUCUAAGAAAAUAUAAUCAAAGGAAAACAAGGUAAUCAAAAGACUCAUAUAAUGUUUUACUUCCAUUUUCUAAGUAACUAAAUAGAAAUGUUGAAAUGAAAGUACCUCCAACUAUGGAUGUAAAGAGUCAUUGUUAAUGAGAAAAUGGUGAGAAUUGGAAUCAUGAAAAGUGUAGAAGAAGACUGUUUGGACUAUGGAGAGUGAAGGAGAAAGAGAAUGCUUGUUGAAAAGGAAAGAGUGGGUUAUUGGGUAACACUUAAGGUUAUUUUAGGUAUAUUUGAAAAUUUUAAAAGUAUUUUUUUUUUAAAUAAUCAGCUCUUAAGUGCUUUUCUAAAAAUUACUUCAAGUGAUUUUUUUCUUUUAAAGGUUUUUAAAAGUGUUUUUGAAAUCUUGCCAAACAUCUAUUUUUCACCCAAAAAAAAACUCUUUUAAUUAUUAAAAAUGCUAGACACUCUUCUUAAAAAUACUACUAAACAAGUUCUUAAUAGGAUUUUAUUUAUUAUCGCAUGUUUCUUAGUCUUUAACCAAGGAUAUGUCUAUACUUCAAAAUAAAAGAAGGGACACAAUUUUAUUCUAACCAUCCUUCAACCUUAUUUUCUUUAAAUAUCUACUAAAAUGGGAUUACUAUGAUUUCACCCCAAUUCCAACUCCCUUUUCUACAAAAAGUAAAACUAAUUUUUUGGGAAUACGUAUGCAAAGGUAAUGGCAUAGAUGAAGUUGUAAAUGGAGAUUAAUGGAAGUGAUAGAAACGGGAUUAUGCUAGGGUUUUAGAGCCAAAGAGGAUGGGUUGGUGAUGGUGGGUCUUAAGGGAAGUGAUAGAGAAGUUGGGAAUUAAGGUUAGAUUUAAGGUUAAGGUUAGGGCUAGGGUUUCAUCAAUGGAUGGUGAUGAAGAUGAAGAUAUGGACAUCCCUUGCAAAAUCUACCAAUAUAAUUAGUUUCUACUAUAUAAUCAACUAAAAUUGGAAUCAAUUCUCCUUCUCAAACUAUGAUAAUAUGACUUUAGAUGGUUUUUGAUAAUGAUUUCUUUUCCUCUCAAUGAAACUAUAGAUCAAUUAUAUGUUUCAACCCAAAUAAGGGAUCCUUAGAAUCCCUUAAUCUUUAGUUUCUAUUUAGAUUAAGGAAUAAGAGAUCCCUAAGAUCUUUUAAUCUUUAAUUUCUAUUUAGUUUCCUAUAUAAAAUAAGAAGAGUGUAAUGGGGAAAGAAAUGGAAAAAUAAUCUCAAUAUGAAAAAUUGGUUCUCUCAAUUUUGCAUCUUCUCUUUGAGUCAUAAGAAUUGGUGUUAGAACACGAUCUUGGCACCAAUCAUGGAUGAAGGGACUAGAGUGUAAGAACAACAUAGACUUGAAGAUACUAUUAAAUAGUUGAAAAAAUCAUUGGAUAAACAAGCGACUACCUCAUUAGAACUAUCAAAGAUGGUUGCAACCAUAAACUUGAAAUUUAAACACAUGAAUUCAAGAAUAGAGAAGUCAAGUAAUGGGUACAAUGCCUCAAUCAAUAGAAGCAAGACAAACUAUCAUUCAUAUGGCAUAAACUCCAUUCAAUCCAGGUUUUCCAAACUCAAAUUUCAAAAUUUUGGAGGUGAGAAUUGGGAAUUAGGAAAAGGUAGGAUUGGCUUCAUUACAUUUAAAAGGAAGGGCCUUAGAAAGGUUUCAAGGGUACAAGGCUAGUAACAAGGAAAUCAACUGGACACAAUUUUAUAUAGUUGUUGUUUCUAGGUUUAGCCCUAGUGUUUAUGAUAGCCUUAUGAGGUAAAUAACCAAAUUGAAAUAGGUUUAUACGAUUAUGGCAUACAAAAAUUAGUUUAAAGUAUUGAUGACCAAAACUAAUGGGUUAUCAAAGGAAUUUUUUGUCUAGUAUUUCAUUAGUAUCUUGAAAGAGGCAAUUAAAAAUCAAGUCACCAUGUUUCAACCGAUCACACUAGCCCAAACCAUCGAAUUAGUCUUGUUGCAGAAAUGAAUAGUGGAAGUAAUUCUCAAGGAAGUCAAGGACUCUAACGAAAGUGAGGAUAGUACAAUGAACUUUACAAGAAUCAUAAUGAAUCAUAAUAACAAAUUACCACCCUUAAGAAGAUUUCAGUUGUAGAAGUGCAAGAGAGAUGAAAAAAAUGUUUUGUUAUUAUUGUGAUGAGAAGUAUAAGUCUGGCUAUAUAUAUAAAAUGAGACAAUUUUUUCUACUAAAUGGUCAUAGAAGUGAAGGGAAAGCAACGUGUGAAGCUAAAAAUGAUAUCAGGAGGAUGAUCUUAUGGCUUUAAUAAAUGCAAUAUUUGGUUCAACAUCUCAUCAAACCAUGAGAAUCUGUGGCAACAUAAAAAGGAAGGUCGUGACCAUACUAAUUGACUUAGGAAGAACCCAUAACUUUCUUGAUCUCGUAGUGGCCAAAAGAACAAGAUGCUCAAUACAAACUACCGACCCCAUGAAGGUGGCAAUAACAGAUAGAACUAGAAUUACUAGUGAUGCAAUUUGUCAGCAAUGAUAGGAUAGAACCCUUAAAAGCAUGACAUAAUGUAAUAAACUGGGAAUUCAUUAUUUAUUCAAUGAUAUUCCAAUUUCAGUUUUAUCUAUCCUUAUUCCAUGUAUUAUACUUUAUGAACUUUUUUGUCCGCAUCUUUUGCAUUAUAUGUGACUUAGGUGGAUCAGGAGUUGCAUAGAAGAUCUAAGUCAUGAGUUCCUUGUAAAUAGAUGACUAGUUCACAACCAAUUUAUGGGUCUAGGCAAUCCAUUAGAGGUUUCGGUGCACCACUUCCUAAUUAGAGGGAUAACUGGUCUUGGCUAUUAGGAUGAGUUUUACUAAUAUGUAUGGAUGCACAUUGGGCAGGACUGAUUAUAAGCUUAAGGCUAUCAAGUAGUCAUGACUUCACCAAGUUGUUUCAUUAUGUUGUUUCUCAACCUUGAGAGAAUAUUGCAUUUGUGUAGAAGUUAGCAGUGCUUUUGAUCUACGGGUAAAAUCGUAAGCUAAUCAUAUGCUCUUUAUGGAUUGGAUCACUAUUGACGGAUGCCAGUAGCAAUAAGUAUUCUAAAUAGAGACACCAUGAUAUCUCUUAGGAAUAAGACAGUGUGUAUCCUUGGGUGAUCCUAAGGAGGUGUGUUCAUGGAAACUAUGGUCAUAAUAGUUCCUUAUGUGGAACUUGACAUAGGCUCUUUGAAAGUUAAGAUAUGUCAAUUGAAUACACAAUAGGAGAAUCUGUAACUCAAGGAUGGUAGAGGUAGUCUUAAAAAGCUUAUAGCUUUCACUUUAUUAGACUACGAACACCAAUUCAUGGGGAGACUAAACAUAAUGGAUAGCAAGUCAUGGACUCGAGCACUUGGUGUCUUAUUAUUAUUUACAUAGGAUAUUUGAGUUCAAUUGAUUCUCUAUAGUGGGAUGUUGAAUCCACUUUAGAAUUGGAUUAUGAGAGAACUAGUAUUUCUAUAGGUCCUAGUGGUCUUUGUUUUGAGCUCAUAUACCUUGUUGGCACUGAUUAUGAGGGUCAGAUUGGCUUUAGGUUCACUUUUGUACAUAAAGGUGUUUUGGUAAUCACACAAGGUUGCACAAAGGUAAGUGAGCAAAGUCUUUGGAUUAGGCUAAUUGAUUAAUUAGUAGGCCCUAUUGGGUUAACUAAUCAAUUAGGACCCAUUUUGGGAUAGAUUAAGUGACCUAAGCCCUUAGUGAACUCAAGUCACUUAAGUCUAAUAGGAAACCACAUAAAUACCCCCUUAGGGGUUAGGGUUCCCAUUGCUUUUUCUAGAGAUCCAUAUUCCAUCUCUAGAGAGAGAGAGAGAUUCAUAGCAUGUACUCUUCCUUCUAUCCCCACCAGAAGUGUGUCAAGAUCAAGUUUCGAGUCAUUUGGCGAAAGACUUCGGGUUUAUGAGACUUCUACGAUUUCAUUCUUCAUCUUCACCAUGUAGAUUUGAUUCACAAACAUCCGAAUCUAAGGUAUGGAUUUUGUUUGCACUUUCUGAAUCCCUUUAAAGUUUAAAAAUGUUAUUUUUCCGUUGUGCAAAGGAUUUAGAAAAAGCCUAGGAUAGUUAUGCAUAUUCCUAACUUGAUCCGAUCUUAGGAAACAAAGAGAUCCUAGUUUUUCCCAUUAGGCAAUUGACAUGGAACAUGCAAGGGAAGAAAUUUUAGAUAGAUUUGAGGCUCAUCCUUUUGAGUGGGUGCGAUAUGGUAUUGGGAAUUCAAUGGCCAACUGAAUUGGGACUCAUAUUGUGGGAUUUCAGGAAUUUUAAAUUUGAAUUUAUUGUUGAUGGAAGGAAAUUCGUGUUAAGAGGUACAACUAUAGGUCCUAAGAAGUUAGUUUCAACUAAUGAAAUUCAAAAUUAUUGAAGGCAUAUGUCUCAAGCAUCUACAAUUCAAAAUUUCACUAUACAAGGGAAUGAGGAAAAUAAAGUUGAAAAUGAACAACAUGGCAGCUGUCCAACUCAUUUCCAAAUAAUGUAACAUAGAAAGAUGCUUACUUUCAACAAAAGUUUCCAUAGUUUCAACCUUGAGGACAAUGCUUCUUUUGAUGGGGGAGAGAAUGUUACAACCCUGAAUAAAGGAUCCCUGGGAUCCCUUAAUCUUUAGUUUCUAUUUCUGUUUAGUUUCUACUUCUAUUUAAAUUGGGGAAUAAAGUAUCCUUAAGAUCCCUCAAUCUUUAGUUUCUAUUUCUAUUUAGUAUCCUAUAUAAAAUAAGAAAAGUGUAAUGGAGAAAAAAAUGAAAAAAAAAUCUCAAUAAGAAAAAUUUGUUCUCUCAAUUUUGUAUCUUCUCUUCAUAUCAUAAAAUUCUACAUGUAGAUUUUCUCCUUCUAAAUCUCUAUAUGAUACAAAAUCAAUUCUUUUUUACUCCAAUUCCAAGUAUGUAUUUAUAGAAAUAGGUAUGCUUUGACUCUCAAUGAACACAUUUUUUCAAUUUUUCUACCUACCUAAGUGGAAAUAACAUAAGGUAACUAAACUUGCUUUGAGAUUAAUUAUGGUUUUGACAAUACAAAACUAGGUAUAGUACAAGACCUCCUAAACAAAGUUUCUAGCAUUAAUGAAUUCAAAAGAAGCUGGGUAAAACAAGUUUCUACUCACCAUCCCAAACAUCCCUUUAGAUGUAUUGUAUGAUAGAGGAUUAUUCUUUUAUUAUUAUUAUUAUUAUUAUUAUUAUUAUUCUUUUUUCUUUUUCCUUUUAAUGGUUUGGAGCAAAUUCAAAUGGCAUUAUAGAAGUAGAAUUUCCUAAUUUAAUUUGUUGGACAAAUUUGUUUUGGUUUUGCUAUAUUUUAUGUUUUGAAUACAUAGAAAUUGAAAUAUAAUAAGAUAACAAUUAUAAUGUAUUUUUAAGGGGAAAAUGUUUUUAUCUUCUAUAAUUAAAAAAAAAAAAAAAACAACAACAACAUCAACAACUACAAUAAUAUAGACAUUUGCAAUUUUUUUUAAAGUGUCUUUGUUAGGACAUUGAGUUCUAUUUGUAUGUUGGCAAUUUUGUUCCGAUUUAUUUUUUGCCUUAGAAAUCUUUUUAGAUAGUGACUUACUUUCCAUUGAAGAUCAAGGAUUGCUACUUGUCCAACUGGAAAAUCACAGGCAUGUCUAAAAGAUUUGACUUGUAGCAAAUUAGGGUUCUAAAAGGUAUAAAGAGGAUCGUUAUUCUUUUUUUUUUUGGAAUAAAAUUGAUUUUUAUUUAUCUUUGUCAAAAAGGCAGGAUUGCUCAAGCAAGGAAUAACACUCAAGCGUUAGGAUGCUCGAGCACUUGACUAGCGCUCGAAUGCCCGAGUUGCUUAAGUGAUGGUUAAGUGGACUCGGCCUCGAGCUCUCGAGCAUUCAUACCAAUUCUACCAAAGAUUAGCAUAAUAUUUUUGGAGAUUUCAUGCAAAUCCUUUCUGGAAACCUUGAGAUACCGACUCUCUUCAACCUUUAAGCCUAUAUGUACCCCAUUAUGGCCAUUCUAAAGUUAGGAGAUUGAUUUAUUGUCGUAAUUGAUAGAGAGUCUCCUAAAUAGAAAGCCUAAUGAACCACACGAUUCCUAAUCUCUCAUUUGAAGGAUAAUCUAGGGUUGAAAACUUGCAUCCCUUCAGUAAGGUUGAAGAGUACUCAGUGGAGUAAUUAGAGAUUAUUGCAUCACAGACGUCAAUGAAGUUGUAGGUAUUAGAGGGUAAGUCUUUAGGAUAAAACGACGAGGUAAAUUUGUGUAACUUGAUCUUGUAUAGUGGAUUUUGAUUAACAAUCUUAGACCUCGUGGUUUUUUUAUCUCCACAGUAGUGCAUGGAUUUUCCAUGUAAAAAUCAUUGUGUCCAUUGUUAUAUCUUGUGAUUAUCAUGAUUGUUUGGAUUUUUUUUAUCUCUAAUAUUAUCUCAUAGGGUAAAAAUUGAGUAUAACAUAUAAUCUUUUUUUUAGAAUUCUUUUAAUUACACCCAUUCACCCCCCUCCUCUCUUUGGGUGUUACCCUACUAGACUUGGCUUUUUCAGUCUCAAAUACUACAAUAGCAUUUUUUUACUUAAGUUAUAAAUGGAAAAAGUUAUAAACCCAAGAUAACUUGCUAAAAAAGUGAGAAAUAAUAAAGGACUCGUGUUAGAGUAUAAAUAGUUAAUCUAUUCUAGGCUUAAUAUAGCUCCAAUGUCAAACAUGAAUACUUAAUUAUUUAUUAUAUUUUGAAAAUAAAGUAAGUAUUUUUUAUAUAAAAAAUGAAACAACUUUUCUAGAACAACACAAGGCACUAAUGCAUAUAGUUGGUAACAAGUUGGAGAAAGAAAAUAAUGUGGAGAAAUAAAACAACAUGUAGAAAGAAACAAAAUGGAGAGAAAGAAAAUGACUAACAAAAAAGAAAAUAGAGAAAUUAUAGAAAAUAAGAUAAUUAAACUUAUUUUCAUAAAAAUAAUAUAUUUUCGAAAAAUAGAAAAUUUCAUUCAUAUUCUCUUUUUCACUUAUUUUAAAAAUAAAAGUAAAAAUUAAUAUUUAUCAAAUAUAUAAGAUUAAGAUUGAGAUAUAAACUUUUUAUAAUCUAAACUAUUAUUUUCAUUUUAAACAAGAAAGUUCGAUGUGACAUAAUAAAAUUUGUACACAAAAUUUAAAUUAUCUCUAUUCAUAUAGAAUUAUAUAUAGGUAUAGAUUCAUUUCAAAAUUCGAAUAAUUAUUUGAAUUUUACAUUUAAAUUUUAUUUUAAAAUUUAAAACUUAAUUAUUUUGUAAUAGGGUAUGUGUCAUAAAAUUGAAGCUUAUAUAUAUAAAUGCCUCCACUUCCAUACCUCUCAUAAAAUUGGAGCCUACUUUUUUUGUUUUCUUUUGUGUGUUUAUAAAUGUCUCAAAUUCCAUAUCUAGUUGUGAUAUAGUUUUGUAGAUGAUUGUGAUUGAAGUAUACUUUCUUUUGAUAUGUUUCCCUCCAUACAAAUCUAUUUAAAAGAAAAAAAAAACACAAAGUGUGGACCCCGCAUUUCGGCUCAUGCGUUUCCCACUCGAUGGUGAAACUCGCUUUUUAAAUUAAAAAAUGAUUUUUUGUUGUUGAUUAAGAAAAAUGACUUAGAGUCGCCACUUAUUUUGUUUUAUUUUUAAAGGGUAAACAAAAUAAGAAAGAAAACCCUAAGUGUAACUCCUUAUUUCGGAAAAGGUGAUAUGUGAAAAACCGGAUCGGGUUUGGGGGUUAGGUUACUUAUCAGGAAGGUACGGUAAAAAAAAAACCGUAGCACCCUUCUAAGCCCCUAAAACGGGUCUCUUCUAAUAAAAUGAAGCUGACAUGGCCAUUGAUGAGGAAAUCAAUGAAUACCCGGAACUAUCAUGCACAUAUGAGAAUCAGAAUAUACGUAACGAAUGAUCAGAAUGAGUGAAUGCGUACCUGGGCAGCAAACUGCAACGCGCUAUCAUGUGUGGACCCCGCAUUUUCGACUCAUGCUCGAAUGCGUUUCCCACUCGAUGGCGAGCUCGAUUUUGCCAAUUGAUGAAUAAAUCAAUGAAUACACAGAGUGAUCUUGCACAUGUGAGAAUCAAAAUAUGCAUAUAGAAAUACCAGAAUGGGAAUAGAUGCGUACCUGAGCGACGAACCACUAGGCGCUAUCAAGAAAGAGGGUUAGUGCACAAUUAAGGACUAAUAACAUGCAUGUAAGAGAGCAGGAUAAAUCAAUCAUGUAUCAUAAUCAAAUCAAAUCAAUCAGUCAAUCAAUCAAUCGGUCACAUAUGUGGGGGCCCCCACCAAAGCCCGUUUAUUUUGCAUGAAUUAAUUCCAAUAACUCCAUUACUUGGAAUUACGGAAUUUAAUCCUUGCUUAUUUAAAAACAUUUUAAAAUCCGGGAAGUCUUGAAAGUUGCAUGCCGAAGAGAGGUGGCAUCAAAUUUUAUUGAAAAACAGGAUUUUUGGAACUCAAAGGAAACGUAAGGAUGAAAGAUGGAAAUUAUUUAAAUUAUUUGAAAACCGACAUAAAAAAAAAUUAUUUGCAAGAAAGGUAUCAGGAAAUUAUUUUUUUAAGCCAAAAGAUUGAGGGAAUGGGAGGUGACACGUGGCCCAAAAGGUGGCCAUGCAGCUGGGUGUAUAGAGUAGAUGGCAAGUGGACCCCUGAGUCAUUUUGUUUGACAAACAGCUUGCUGUUGUAGUCUGCAUCCAUAUUGAUAAUACCCAAACUUGGAGCGCUGACCUUAUUUUUCAUUGGAGACAUCAAAUGACGUGUUUCAUGGUGGUGAGGCACGUACACUGCUGCAAAAUGGGUGACUUUGCUCCUAUGACUCAUGUUUUCUCCUCUUGAGUUGUUCAUCUGGGAAUAUACAAUAAUUUUCCAGCACAAACAUUCAGAAUCUGGAUUCCUUUCACUCAAUUUAUCUGCUACCACUUCUGAUAUAUUCAGCUCGAACCAGGGUCGUUCAUGUUCUCGGUAUAUUUCCCUUAUACCCUGGUCAACAUGGAAUUCGCGGAAACUGCUUGGUUGAUCUGCAUUAAAUGGAAUUAGUGAGCUCAGUGAUAGCAAAUCUAGCUCAGCACUUGCUGCUAAUUGCCUUUGUUCGCGCAACUCCCUUCCUUUUGAAGGUCGUUACUUCCACCUCGAGCCAAGCCAGUCUGGAUGUCUCCCCUAAUUGAGCAUUCAGAAUACUCAAAGAAUCUAGACUGCGACAGAUGACCUGUCUGACCUUCGCAUGCUAUGUGCUUGCUGCACUGAGCUUUGCUCCACCGUUGAAGGCGACGCUGGAGGUAGCAACGACACAGGUCUGAAUGACGGUGUUCUCCUGCCUUAUGAAGGGCUGCUUAGGGAAUUGGAAAACUCACAACCACUUAAAGUUCCAAAUUGACUGCCACCAUUCGAAACUAAGCCUUCAUCUGAUUCAAAAAUGUCUCGGCUUUAACAUCCAUUAGAGCCUUUGUCCUGAUGUUAAUAGAAUCUGGAUCAUAUUGCUCAGAAAAAGAUUUCGGUGCUUUGCUUCCCCCAGAGAACCCAGCUAUCCUUGAAAACUUUGUCUCAUAUUGAAUUCCCAAAACAACCAGUGGGAUUGCUACAGCUGGACCAUUUCCCCUUUUGACCAACGUGGCUGUUAAAGCUGGAAGAUGAGGUCAGAGGUGUUCCAUGAUAUCCUUGUUCGAGAUCCCUUAACAUUCAUUCCAACAGCUACCGAUUUGCACCCUUCAGUAGACAUUGCUCGGGUAAGGACUGUAGCAUAGGCGGUACCAUCUCUUGCCACAUUAUUAAUGGUAUUUGCAACCUAUUUUGCAAGGCUUGCACAAAUAUUCUUGACUGUAGCAUUAAGCCUCGAACUUCAACCCCGAAUCUGAUGUCUUUAGCAGUAUGGUUCCUGCCCUAGUUCAGCCUACUACCGAUAUGAUGGGUGUUGUGCCAAGUGGUCUGAACCUUAGGAGCAAGACUGGUGACGAGUGUGAAGGUGAUGGGUGAUGUUCACUUGCACCAUGCCCUUUUCUAAUUGGAGAUAUCACCAAUAUAAAGCAGGGUGGAUUUUCUGAUGAGAGAUUUCUAUGUCCUAGAGUGGUUCAUGUCGCAUGGGCAUAGGGAUUAAUGAAGGGGCAUGAUGAUGCCAGACGGGUAUGAGUUGUUGAUAACGGAUGUGAGGGAUAGUAGGCUCUACUAACAGAUGAACAAUGUCAUGCAAGCCUUGCACAACAAAAUGCGGAGAGCACAGUACCCGAGAAUACUUCCUUUGUCCCCUUCAACUCAUUUUCUGCUUGAACACUUCCUCUUCCUCUCAUCCUUAGAUGACAUCUCUUCUUUCAAAGGUAUCUCUUCUCUCAAAACCCAUAUAAUGAACAAGAUCCAGGAACAGAGGUGGCCUCAACCAUGAAAAGAAAUGCAUGAAAACAGAGCACAAAGGGAAACAAAUAUAAAGGUCCUCAAAGGAAGAUUCACAUCAUGAGUCAUCAGUGAACCUUCCUAUUAGGUGAGGAAAAACAGCAUCAAAUGCAAACAUUGGUGGGGUUCUCGGGCAUUUCAUAGUCACAAAUAGAAACAGAACAUAUUAAGAUUGACAAUGGCAGGUAUGAAUUCAGGAUUAUAUCUCAACAAGCAACAAGUGGCCUUCAUUAUCCACCCCAAGCAAAACAACAAAUAUCCAAAUAUCAACAAGCAAUGCAGAGGGAUAGCAAGGAUCCAAAUCAAACAAUAAACCUGUUGCCUUCAUACCUGAGAAUGUCCUUCUCCAGUAAGGCUCUGUUCUUCUACAAACACCUCAAGUUCCCCUUUAAAAUCAACGAAAACUAAUGAGACAGCAGCACCUCUUCUACUCUCCAAACACACAGCUCUCUCCCUCUUAAUUUUCUCUCAAACUAAACAGCCACCUAAAAUCCUCCAUCAACCUCUCUCUCAAAACUCCUCCUGUGAAAACUCUCCCCUCUCUCAGGUUCCUCUAAACGGCAGCCAAUAGCACCCCUACCUCUCACAGUUUGCUGCUCCCUGUUCUCUCCUCCGAUAGCCUCUCCUCUAAGCUAGAAACUUAUCCUCAAACUCUCACCCUUUUCUCCUCUGAUUCCCCUGUUUUUCUCUCUCUCUAGUCUCCCUCAGUAACCAGCCUGGAGACCCUAGUUCUCUCCCAAGCUCUCCUCUCUCGUUCCCCCAAGCAAAGGCCCCCCUAACAAUAUCUCCCGGUAGCCUCCUUCUUUUGCUCUCUAGCCUCAAAACUCUCUCUGGAAUCCCUCAGACUUCAGCAGCCCAGGUACCUCUCUCUUCUGAUUUUUCUCUAUUUUCUCUCUAAAAAUCCUCCCCCUUGAGUAACCAGCCUCCUCCUUACCCAAGCAAAGGAUCCCCUAAAAAAAUAUCUCUAACGGCCUGCUCAGAGAGCUCCUGCAGCUGCCAGACGACACCCCCUUCCAGCUGCCUGCCUCCAAAAUAUCUCAUAACUGCCUGAAGAAUCCCUUUACAGGUGUCACCCUCUGGUUUGCCUCUCAAAUCCACUACUUGAUCCUUUAGCAGCCUGUCAAGAGGCACCAUGCGGCCUCCUCAAGUUGCUCCACCUGGAAAAAUUUGCUACAACAAUUACCUCCCAAAGUGGGGGUCUACAUCAUGGAAUGGGGUUAGUGAAUAAAUGCAGAAUGAUUAUAUGUAUAUCAAGGAAUAGAGUGAAUCAAUCACGCAUGGCAAACAAAUAAAUAAAUCAAUCAAUCAAUUAUGAAGUCGAGUAUAUGGGGCCCCCACCAAAGCCCGUUUUAUCUUGCCUGAAUCGAUUCCGAUAACUCCAUUGCUCGGAAUUACAGAACUUGAUUCCUUGCUUAUUUCAAAACAUUUUAAAAAUAGAGGAAGUAUGAAAAAUUGCUUGCCAGAAAUAAAAGUGGCAGCAAAGCUUUAUCAAAAAUGUGAUUUUGGAACCUAAGGAAAAUGCUCUAAGGAUGAAGAAAAAGGUGGAACAUCGGUUGGAUAGAAUUCCGGAUGUGAGAUAUCCAGAGAAGGUGGAACGUCGGCGGAUAGGAUUCCAGGCGUGAGACACCCGGUGAUUACUACCAAAAAUUGCUAUUUUUUAGACCUAAUUAUAAUGGUUUUAAGCAUCUUUGAGUAGUAAUCAUAUUCAUUUAACCUAAUUAAUUCAUUAAGGUCCUUAGUAAUUGGUUUUAACCAUUUUGUGGCAAGUUUACAUGUUUUUAUCAGCUUAUGAAUCAAUUCAAGCAUGCCAAAUGAUGGAGGAGCUACUUGGACAAGUUAAAGCAAUGAUUUUGGAAGUUUACAGGCUUGAAUUUCAAGUGGAAACACGAGCACAAACAAAGGGAUAGCCAUUUCGCAAGGCAAGGCAAAGUACCUUGCCAAAAUGCAAUUUUCGCAAGGUGAAUUUACUCAUGAUGCGAAAAUAAGGCACUUCGCAUCAUGAGUAAUUCACCUUGCUAAAAUUUAGCAAGGUGCCUUUUACCUUGCCAAAUUACCUCUGUUUCUCCACGCACGCACCAUCGACUUCCCAGAUAUUUUUAGCUUGAUAUUUUCUCGUGUAAAUUCCUUUUGUAACCUUGUAUUCAGCCGACAUAAGGCUUUAUCUUGUAAUUUUGCUAUAUAUAGAGGUGCACAACACCUCCAAAAGAUAUUGGGGAUCGAUCCUCUGUACAUUAACUUAGAAAUAUAUAAAGCUCUGUUUUUCUCUCUUCUCCUGUUCUUCCCCAUUUCUAUUUUCUUAGUAACCAAACAACCUCUGAGGGCUUUUCCUUAGAGGAUAAUUGGCUAAAACUUUUAGUUUCUCAAAGUAUGGAUGUUAUGGGAUGGCUUGGAUGCAAUCCCAUGGAAAUUUCUCGCACCUAGAAGGUAAGGUAGUCGUUUUUCAUUAAUGGUUCAUUAAUGCAAAGUUUGGUUUUUAUUUCCUUUGGACAACUUCCAACGGCCAAUACUUGAUAAGCUUUUGGAUUUCUAUCCAUUAGUUAUCUCCUACGAACUAUUGGAAGGUGAAUUUUUCAAUUCCAAGUUUUACAUUAAUCCGUUAGAACCAAUUUCAAUGGCCAUUGAAAGGUGAGUUUAUCACCUGGAAUGACUUUGAGCUGCCAAUAUUUGGUAAGCUUUUGGUUUUAGACCAUUAGUUAUCUCUUACGAGCCAUUCAAAGGAAGUCUAAGAUGAAUAACCAUUGAUGAAAUUCACUACCAUCUGUUUUGCCAUUUUAAAGGAUUAAAACUUGAUUUGCUAAAUCCAUACCGGUUCGGGAAUCAAGCAUCACCAUAGUUGCAACCCCAACGCGAGGAGCCUAUCUUGAGAUUUCCAAUUUGCAUAAGAGCCAGAGCAUAGCUAUCCUAUCUUUGAGAAACUUGCUUUUACACCCUUUCAUUUUAGUCUUUAAUGUUAGCUUAGAUUAGUUUAAAUCUUUCUAAAACAUUUACAUCUUCUUUUAAAGCUAACAUCCAUAAGAAAAUCACCUAUUUUCCUAAUUUGAAUAUCACUAGUGUUUGCGAAAACCCUUCCCAGUGAACGAUCCUAGAACCACUAUGCUAUAGUAGUUUGGCUACUUUAGUAAUAGUAUUUAAGGUAUAAAUUUUGUUGAUACGCCUUCAAAGCUAAGCUACCAUGAGUCGCAUCACCCGGGAAAGGUGGAACAUCGGCGGAUAGGAUUCCGGAUGCGAGGCAUUCGGAUGGAAUGACAGCGGAGAGGACUCCGGGUGUGAGACACCCGAGGAAGGUGGAUCGUCGGCGGAUAGGAUUCCGGGCGUGAAACACCCGGGGAAGGUGGAACGUCGGCGGAUAGGAUUUCGGAUGCCUUGCAUCCGGAUGGAAUGACGGCGGAGACGACUUCGGGUGUGAGACACCUGGGGAAGGUGGAUCGUCGAUGGAUAGGAUUCCGGACAUGAGACACCCGGAUGGAAAUGACGGCGCAGAACGAUUCCGGGUGUGAGACACUCGGAUAGAAAUGGCAGCACAGAAGGGAUUCCGGGUGUAAGACAGUCGAAUGAAAAUGGCGGUGGGGAAGGAUUCCAGGUGUGAGACACCCGGAUGGAAAUGGCGGCGCAGAAGGAUUCCAGGUGUGAGACACCCGGAUAAGGUAGAAUGUUGUUACGAGUAGCAUGAAGGAUAGGUAUGGGUUGUGUGGAUAUGGGGGCUUGGGUGAGUGGUUUUAAUGGGUAUGCGAAAAAGUGAAGGAUAGCAUGCACCCAAGAGACCCCAUGUACGUGGGGGGAGUGGGGUGGAGAAUGAAUGAGAGGAAAAGGAGUGCAGUGGAGGAUGCCCGAUUCCUAUAAGCUUGAGUGAGGAAAUGGGUAUGACGACCUAGAAAGAAAGGUAUAUAGAUGAACGAUGGGUAUGGGGAUGCUGAUGAGGUGAGCUUUGCCGCCACGAAAACUACUCCAGAUUCUCUAGGAUCUCUUUCGAGUAGGGAUGAGAAAAUGGAUGCGUACCAUGGACGGAUAUCAAGAAACAGGGGAAGUAGAGAAACAGAGCGUGAAAGAAGACGAAUAAACAAAGAAAAAAAAGAAUCUCAGAAAAUCCAUUUCAUGGAUCAUCCAUGAACCUUCUGUGCAGGUGAGUAGAUCAUGUCAAAUGCAACCACCCCCCUGAUUCUCAAGCAUUACGUAAUCAUAGUAGGAUUAGAGUAAGUAAAAAUGGACAGUGGCAAACACAAAUACAAGGUCAUACUUCAACAAGUAGACUGGUGGCCUUCAUUAUCCACCCUAAACAGAUCAAUGAGUAUUCAAAUAUUCACAAGAGAUGUAAAAGAGUGAUAGUCAUACCUGAAAGCCUCUUCUCCCGCUAGGCGUCUCUGGCUAAACUCUCCUCUCCUCUCCCCUCUGUCUCCCUUUUUCCUGGAUUCACCUUCCUUAGCAAGUCAGUACCUGCCUCCUCCUAUUCAUGCAUCAGCCAGUAUGGCUUGCCCAACUACCGUCACUGUUGUUGUACGCUUCAUGCAGACGACAUCAAGCUCCCAGCUGGGGGUCCCCUACCCUAUCUCAAAAAAUGUAAUCCAAAACCAAGAAAAAAACCGCUCCCCCCUCCUCACAAAAAGCUCAUCUCUAACAACCAAAAAGCUCCUCCGAAUAUCCUCCAACAGGUGUCUCCACCCCAUUGCAUUUCCAAACCACUACCUGGUUCAUUGACCACCCAACCAGGAAGCAACAUCUGGCUCUUCAAGAGCCCUCCACUUGGCCAGAAGCGUGAACUGCAGCAAAUGAAAAAAACGAGCCCCAUAUGGGGGUCUACACAAACAAAGACAACAACAGAUGAAAAUAAUUAUUCAUCUGUUAGUGCAAAAUAUGAAAGAGAAGACAACAGUGUGCAUCUUCACUAUGACUGAGGAUCAAAUUCUCUUUGAGAUUGAUAUAAAUUAUUUAUAGCUUCAUUGUUCAUGGAGAGUUGAUUCAGUAGUGUCUUCCAUUUGAAGACAUACAAAAAUGGUUAGAAUUAUCUAUUCAUUUCAAGAGAUAACUUGCAUCUAUGACCCUUAUACUCCCAUGAACUUUGAGCAUCUAUUAUUUAUAAAAUAUGGAUGAAAAGAGAAUAAAAAAAAAAAAUUCAUGGGAAGUGUAUUUUGGAAAAAAUAAUUCUCAUUUGAUACAUUGGAAAAGUGUCUACCUCACAUUACCCAAAAAUGACGUUAUAUGUGUACAUGGGUCAUCAUCCAUAGUAACCCAAUUCACAUGAGGAUGGUAUAUCAUUUAUAAAGGUACAUUAAGCUCAAAACAGUGGUACAUUAUAAUCAAAACAAUAUUACUUUAAUAUCAAAAUACAUGUAAGGACAUUUUCAGGUAAUGUGAGGUAAAUACUACUAUAAUACAUUAAAUAAGAAUUAUUUUCCCAAAAAAGUACUUCCCAUGAAAAUGACUUAUGUAGGUUUUCUUUUAUUUAUUUUUUAUAAAUAGUGCAUGUUUACAUGAUUCCCUUAUUAAUAUAAUAUAAUCAUCUAUACAUGAUAAUUAAGGAAAUCGAAAAUAUUUACAUACUAAGCAAGGAUAAUGGAAAUUAAACAGUAUGAAAAAAGAGAAAAAUAAAUAUUAAAUAUAAAUUAAAACUCUAAAAUACAAGCCUUCAUUUGCACAUAUAGGCCAAUAUCUUAGGAGGUAUUUGAUUAAAAAAUAAUAAUGAUUAAAACUGGAAAAAUUUAUGGGUCCCAUUUUUUAAGUGUUUUCAAUAACAUAAUUAUAAACCUCUUAAAAUUUAAAAUCAUUUAUUUAAACCACUUUAUUCAUUUAGCAACAAGGACUUAAUUAAUCACUAAGAUCAAACAUAAUGAUUUAUAAUUUUUAUAAUUUUUUCUUCCAUUACUAUCAUUUUUUUGUUAAUAAAAUGAAGAUUUCUAUUGAUGAAUUUUUUACUAUUAAAAAAAUUAAUUCAUCUAUGAGAUUCUUUUAACUAAUCCUUUUAGAAUUUUUAUAAUUUUUUUUUUCAUAUUUAAAGAUAAAAAAAUUGUUAUGAAAUAAUUAAAUUAAUUAUAAAAUUUAUCUUUCUUUUCUAAAUCAGAAUUUUUGUCAUGUCCAUUCAUAUAAUAAAAUUAAAAUUAUAAAUAAAUAAAAAAACCUAUUUUAAUUGACAGCAUCAUGGAAUCUCUCCAUGCACACUCAUGCAGCCAGCCAUCAAUUCCCACGGCAGCCACGUGUCUUCCAACAAGUAUAUUCCCUUUCUUUGGCUCUCCACGUGUUUGUGUUCUAUUUUUAUUUAUUUAUUUUAUCCUGAUUAGUAGUUCACCGAACAAGCAUAACAAGGAUAUGAGUAGAUAUGUCAUGGCUAUGAUCACUUCUAACACUAAACCUUCUUAAACAAAGUGAGGUAUGAAUGUAGUAUGCCAGUCUAAAUAAUGGUGAAAGAAUAAAAACAAUGGAGAAUGCAUGUAAGAUGUAUAUAUAACUAUAAAUAAGGAUUCAAAAUGAGGGGAAAAAUCAUUGAGAAGGGUGAACCAUGGGUGAUAAGCCACUUUAAGGUUCAUCCUUUGGAUAAAUAUUAAAAGUUAAAGAGUAUAAAAUGUCUACUUAUGUCAUCAUUUUUUUUUUUCACUUUUAAGUUAAAUAUAUUUUUAUUGUUAUAAAUGAAGUAAUGAAUGCCACCACAUUUAUUAUAUUAAAUGUUCAUUAAAAGCAUAUAAAAAUGUUUCCUAUCCCCUAUAAAAUGCAUCCCAAGCAAAGAAAUACAUUUUCUUUCUCUUUUAUUCUCUUUUUUUAUUUUUUUAUUUUAUUUUUAUUCUCCAUAUCUUUCAUUCUUUCAACUAUCUUAAUUGUCUUUUAUGAUUCCUUCCUCUCCAUUAUAUAUCAUUGUCAAAAUAAUAUAUAGUUGUUCUCUACUUUUAUUGUCGUUGCAUUUAUCCUCUUUUUAUAAUAGGUUAUUAGCAUGAAUUGCUCUGAAGGUAAUUCUCAUAUCUUAAACUUGAAGUUAUUUAUAUAGAAUAAAAUUUUACAUAUUUAUAUUGCUAUUGUUAAAUUCAUUUAAUUUGUGUUAUAUAUUAUUAAAAGCUAUACACAAAUUAUUUGAUUUUGAUUAUAAUCAAAAGUUAUACCAAUGCCAUUAAUUUAUAACUAAUUAUAGUAAUAUUGUUUUGUCAUAUAUCUGAAGUUAUUUAACAAUGUCAAAUCUCACAAAACUCAAAUUUAUGGCACUUGACAUUUCGGGAAAGAACUAUAUAUCUUGAAUCCUUAAUGCUGAAAUACGUCUUGAUGCAAUGAAUCUUGGAGCUAUGAUUAAAGAAGGAAAUCAAGCAUCCUUGUGGGAUCACGCAAAAGCGUUGAUUUUCUUUUGCCAUCAUCUCUAUAAAGGUUUUAAAAAUGAGUAUCUUAUAGUAAAUGACACUUUUACUCUAUGGAGUAAUUUAAAGGAAAUAUAUGACCACCAGAAAAUUGUAAUUAUCCGGAAAGCCUGAUAUGAUUGGAUGUAUUCAAGGUUGUAGGAUUUCAAAACUAUUGGUGAAUAUAACUCUGCCCUUUUCAAAAUCAGGUCUCAAUUAAAGCUAUGUGGAGAAAAAAACCAUAGAAGAAGACAUGUUAGAAAAAACUUUACUACAUUUCACGCCUCGAAUGUGCUCUUACAACAGUAAUACCAAGAACGUAUAUUUACAAAAUACUCUGAAUUAAUAUCAUGUCUUCUUGUUGUUGAACAAAAUAAUGAGCUUUUGAUGAGAAAUCACUAGUCUCAUCUAAUUGGAUAUGAACCAUUCCCUAAAGUGAAUGCAAUAUUGUCCCAAACUCGUGGACAUGGGCAAUGACAAGGAAAUGGUCAUGGUCAUGGAAGGAAUCCCUGAUAUAAUGGUUAUUAUGGUAAUAAUUCCACAAAUUCUCAUAAAAUGAAAGCUUCAUUGCACCACUGAUUACUACUCAAAAAGUGCAUUUUUAUAAGCUUAAACUUAAUUGUAUUAAGCACUUUUGAGUAGUAGUUAGACCUUUUAUCCCAAUUGGCAUGUUAAGGACCUAGCAAAUGUUACUAACCAAUUUUUGGUAAGUUUUAGUGUUUUUGAUAGCUUUUUUAUCACUGAAACAGCCCAAGAUUGAGGGAGAGUUUGGAGCACAUGAAGAAUCAGAGCUUUGGAGCACUUCAAAACCCCUUGCCAAACUUGAAAAAGGGUUGCCAAAACUAUCAGUAGUAAGAUGGAGGGAAAUAGAGCAUUUCGCAAGGCAAAAUCAUCAAAUUCGCAAGGUGUGCCAAAAUUCGCAAGGUGUGCCAAACUUUCGCAGGGUGAUUACUACCAAAAAGUGCUAUUUUGUAGACCUAAUUAUAAUGGUUUUAAGCACCUUUGAGUAGUAAUCAUAUUCAUUUAACCCAAUUAAUUCAUUAAGGUCCUUAGUAAUUGGUUUUAACCAUUUUGUGGCAAGUUUACAUGUUUUUAUCAGCUUAUGAAUCAAUUCAAACAUGCCAAAUGAUGGAGGAGCUACUUGGACAAGUUAUGGCAAAGCUUUUGGAAGCUCAAAUUCAUGAAGAACCAAGCUUUGGAGCUCCAUAGCCCUUUUCCAAAGUCGUUCAAAGUAUGCAAGGAAAGAACAAUGGAAAAGAGGAAAAGCAAGCAAAGUGAAGAGAAGCAAAGAGGACAGCAGCUGCAGUCUUCUUUUGCCCUUUUGGAGCACUUACCGAAGUCCAUUUUUUACAUAAUAUAUACCAUUUCAAAGCUCUGGAAGUCAAGAAUCCAACGCUUUAAACCAUGUACGAUUUGGAGCUGAAAUGAGGAAGAUAUGGCCUUCGGAAGACAACUGCUCCAGGUUAUGCGAAAAUUUUGCACGACACAAGGUGUUAUGCGAAAUUCGCAUAACACCUUCAAAAUUCGCAUAACCCAUGCGUGGUGCGAAUUUUGCUCUGUUUUUUCCGACUCCACUUUAGAUAUUUUCCUUUGUAUUUUGUGAUGUAAUUUCCUUUCUUAUCCUUGUAACUAACCAAUCACAAGCUUUUGUUUUUGUAAAGACUAUAAAAGAGGUGGAAAUCACCUCUUGAAAAAAAGAGAACAUGCGUGUUAGGUUUUAUACAGAGCUCUCUCGUUUCUCUUUUCUCUUUACUAUUUUAUUUUCUUGGAAGCCAAACAGCCUCUGAGGGCUUUUCCUUAGAGGAUGAUUGGCUGAAACUUUUAGUUUUUCAAAGUAUGGAUGUUAUGUCAUGGCUUGGAUGCACUCCCAUGGAAAUUUCUCGCACCCGAAAGGUAAGGUAGACGUUUUUCAUUAAAGGUUCAUUAAUGUAAAGUUUGGUUUUUAUUUCCUUUGGACAACUUCCAAUGGCCAAUACUUGAUGAGCUUUUGGAUUUCUAUCCAUUAGUUAUCUCCUACGAGCUAUUGGAAGGUGAGGUUUUCAAUUCCAAGUUUUGCAUUAAUCUGUUAGAACCAAUUUCAAUGGCCAUUGAAAGGUGAGUUUAUCACUUGGAAUGACUUUGAGUUGCCAAUAUUUGGUAAGCUUUUGGCUUUAGACCAUUAGUUAUCUCUUACGAGCCAUUCAAAGGAAGUCUAAGGUGAAUAACCAUUGAUGAAAUUCACUACCAUCUGUUUUUCCAUUUUAAAAGAUUAAAACUUGAUUUGCUAAAUCCAUACCGGUUCGGGAAGCAAGCAUCACCAUAGUUGCAACCCCAACGCGAGGAGCCUAUCCUGAGAUUUCCAAUUUGCAUAAGAGCCAGAGCAUAGCUAUCCUAUCUUUGAGAAACUUGUUUUUACACCCUUUCAUUUUAGUCUUUAAUGUUAGCUUAGAUUAGUUUAAAUCUUUCUAAAACAUUUACAUCUUCUUUUAAAGCUAACAUCCAUAAGAAAAUCACUUAUUUUCCUAAUUUGAAUAUCACUUGUGUUUGCGAAAACCCUUCCCAGUGAACGAUCCUAGAACCACUAUGCUAUAGUAGCUUGGCUACUUUAGUAAUAGUAUUCAAGGUAUAAAUUUUGUUGAUACGCCUUUAAAUCUAAGCUACCAUGAGUCGAAUCACAGGGUGUGCCAAACUUUUGUAGGGUGUGCGAAAAUCACUUUGUGCGCACCGACCUUUGAGAUUUUUCUCCAGAACUGUAAUUGUUCCUUUUUAAUCCUUUUGUAAUAGAUUCAUUACAUUAGGGUUUGUUUAGGAACUAUAAAUAGGGGUUGGAAAACCUCUCAAAAGAUAUUAUGUUAGGAUAGAUAUUAUGUUUUAGAUAUUUUGUAAAGUCUGAGUUUUUCUCUGCCUUUCCUUCUCAUUUUCUCUUCACUUUCUCUCUAACCACACACCCUCUGAGGAUGAUUUCUCAGAGGAUGAGUGGCUAAGUUUCACGUUUCUUGGAGUGAUGGAAGCUAGGUAAAGGACCCAGAUGCAAAGGUAUGAGUUUUCCUUACUUUAAAUGAAGGUAGUUGUGUAUCAUUAAUGGUUUAUAUUUCAAGUUUCAGUUUUAAUCCCUUAGAAUCACCUUGAAUGGUCAAUACUUGGUAAGCUUUUAGGAUUCUAUGGAUGCUUAUUGCUAGAUCCAUGGAUGUCCAUUAGUUAUCAAGUACUAGCCAUUGGAAGGUGGUUCAAGGUGAGGGUCUUUAGUGUUUGAAGCCAUUAAUGGGAAGCAACUACCAUUUUUCAAGAAUCCUUUGGAUCAAAACUUAUAUGCUAAAUAUAAAUCCGGUUCGGGAGAUAACCAUCCUUUAUGUUAUUGUCCCCAAUGCAAGGAGAAGAUCUGGAAUUUCCUGCUUUGCAACAGGAACCUGAUCCUAGUAACCAUAGCUCCAAGAGACUUUCUCUUUAUAAUAAUUUCAAUUGUUUAUGUUUGCUUAACUUAAAAUCAACCCUUCCAAUCAAUCUUAUUUUCAUUUAAAAACUAACUUCCAAAAAGGAAAUCACCAUUUCUUCUUUUAUUAAUGUUAAGUGUACAAAGAAAACCCAUCUCUGUGGAUGAUCCUAAAGCCACUAUACUAUAGUAGCUUUGUCCUUGCUAUCCUAGUAUAAGGUGUUGUAGGUUUUAUAAAUGUUUUGAUAAACACCCGACUGGGCAUGAAUCAAAUGGCGUUGUUGCCGGGGAUGGUGCCUAAGCGCAUAAAUGUUACCUUUUAUGAGUACUUGUGAUCUUCAUCACAAGUUGGUGAUUUUUCUUUCACUAACUCAUUUUCUUUGUUUUUAUUUUAUCUUAUCUUUCAUUUAGUUUUUAGAUAACCUUAAAUAUUUUCCUAGAAUUGUAGUCCUUUUUGUUUUCUUUGUUUUUGUUUCAGUAAUCUCGGGUUGUGUAUGCCCUAUUAGAUAAGAGAUAUUGAGGGAAGACUUGUGAAAAUUGAAACUCCUCAAGAAACUGAGUUGGAAGUCUGCUUGAACAUCAUGGAUUGUCCACAUGAAGAUCAGCAUAGCCAACAUGGGCAAGAGGAGAAUCUCAAUGCAUACCGAUCCAUGAGGGACCGCAUGCAUCCACCUUGAAUGAGUGCACCUUCAUGCAUAGUGCCUCCCACUAAGCAGCUAGUGAUCCGACCUCAUAUAGUGCCACUUCUACCUACUUUUCAUGGGAUGGAAAGUGAGAACCCCUAUUCUCACAUCAAGGAGUUUGAAGAAGUGUUGAUUACUACCCAAAAAGUGUUAUUUUGCUCCUUUAAUUCAUUAUGUUUUAAGCACUUUUGUGUAGUAGUUCUCCAUCUUUAUUCCAAUUGGCAUGUUAAGGACCUAGCAAUGACUUCUAAUCAUAUUUGUGGCUAGAUUUAUUGUUUUGACAGCUUUUUGGAUCAUUAAGACAAGCCAAGUAAAGGAGAGAAGCAAAGAGGAAAACAGAGUGAAGAAAAUAGAGGACAGCAUCUGCAGUAUUCCUUUGCACUUUUGGAGCACUUAAUGAAGUCCAUUUUCUACAUGCUAUAUACCAUUUAAAAUAUCAGGAAGUCAAGAAUCCAACGCUUCAAACCGUGUAUGAUUUGGAGCUAAAAUGAGGAAGAUAUGGCCUUCGAAGACAACUGCAUCAAGCUAAGUGCGAAUUUCGCACAGCAGCCCAAGCAAGUGCGAAUUUCGCACCACCAGCCAUGCAAGUGCGAAUUCGCACCAGCCCAUGCUUCUUUGGUGCGAAAUCUCCUCUGUUUUUCCGACUCCACAUGAGAUCUUUUCUUUUGUAUUUUUUGAUGUAAAUUCCUUUCUUAUCCCUGUAAUUAGCCAAUCACACGCUUUGCUUUUGUAAAGAUUAUAAGAGGGGUGGAAAUCAUCUCUCGAAAAAUGACGAACAUAUGUUAUGUUUUACACUUAGUAAAAUACAGGGCUCUCUUUGCUUUCCUUUUCUCUCUACUAUUUUCUUUUUCUUGGAAGCCAAACAACCUCUAAGGAUGUUUUCCCAGAUGAUGAGAGGCUAAACCUUUGGUUUCUUGGAGUGAAGGAAGCUAGGUGAAAAGUCCAGAUGCAAAAGUGGAAAACUCUCGUGCAUUAAAUACAGGUAGUUGGAGUUCAUAAAUGGCUUUUAAAUCUAAAGUUUUGCUUUAAAUCCCUUAGAAUCACUUUGAAUGGCCAAUACAUGUUAAGCUUUAGGUCUCUGUGGAUACUUAUUGCUAGAUCCAUAUCAGACCAUUAGUUAUCAUGUAUGAGCCAUUGGAAAAUGGCUCAAGGUGAAGACCCAUAGUGUCUAAAGCCAUUAAUGGAACCUGACUACCAUUUCUAUUGACUUUUUAUGGAUUAAAUCUUCAUUGUUAAACCUAUACCGGUUCGGGAAACAACCAUCCUUUAUGUUGUUGUCCCCAAUACGAGAAGAAGAAUCCGGAAUUUCCACUUUGCAUUCUGAACUUGAUCCUAGCAACCCUUAUCUUCGGGAGACUUUCUUUCUUCCAUUUUUACCUAGUUCUAUAUUAGUUUAGCUUCAAACACCACUUUCAAAAAAAAAUUUAUUUUCCUUUAAACUUUAAGUUUUUGACAAAGGAAAUCAUCAGAUUCAAUUUCUAAUCUUGAGUAUAUCAUUGGUAGAAUGAAAACCCAUCCCAGAUUUCGACCCUAGAGCUGCUAUACUAUAGUAGCUUUGCUACGCUAGUAUGAGGUCAUAGGAUUUAUAAAUAUUUUUUAUUAAAACACCCGACUGGGCACGAAUCAAAAUGGCGCUGCUGCCGGGGAUGGUGCCACUUUACAGUGAUAUGACCUUUUCAGAGUACUUGUGAUCUUUAUCACAAGUUUGGUGACUUUUCUUUUCCUUUUAUUAACUCUUUUUUUUUGUUUAUUUUCCUUUGUUCAUGUUUUAGUAUAUCUUUUAUUUAGAUUUUAGUUAAUCUUAAUAAUUUUCUUUAGAAUUUUAUUUUCUUUUGUUUGCUCUGUUUUUAAUUCACAAAUUGCUAGUUGUGCAUGCCAUUUCUAAAACACUAGUGCAAGCUAUGUCGUGUGCCAUUUGUCAAUCUUUUGAGCACUUGGUGGAGGAGUGUCCUAUCCUUCCAGCAAUGAGGGAGAUGUUUGGUAUGCCAUGUGGCAUUUGUCAGUCUUUUGAGCACCUGGUGGAGGAGUGUCCUAUCAAUCCAGUGGCAAGAGAGAUAUUUGGUGAUUAUAACACCUACAAUUCAUUUUGUAGGAAUCAUCCAAAUUUCUUUUAGGAACCACAACCACGUCAGUACAUGCAACCCGCUCAAGCACCACAUCAAGCCUUGAAACUUGAACAAGCAAUUGUGAACCUUACCAAGGUUGUGGAAGACUUUGUAGCACACUAGAAAUCCAUCAUUGAUCAAUUCAGGCAAGAAAAUGCUCAAGUCAGGCAAGAAAUUGAUAGCCAAGACAGAAAGAUGGAUGGGAGGUUGAAUGAUUUGUCUCAGAAGACAGACAAUCUUGAAUACUCAAGCUCAAGGCUUAUCAACCUCAACACAGAGCGAGAAAAAGAAAACUUUCCUUCUCAACCAUAUCAACAUCUCAAGGGUAUCCAUAAAGAGGAGGCCCAAAACGAAGAAAAUUCAAUGGUGAGGAAAGUCAAAGUAGUUAUGGUUGAUCAGCCCAUAUUCAAGCCAAAGCAUGAUGAAGGGUUACCUGAACCCUCAGAGAAGCUUGCUAAUCUGUUCCAUUGGACGAGAACAAAAGAAAUGUAGCCCUUAUUGAAUGCGGUGGAGAUACAGAGACAUGCGAAGGAGGAGCCCCCAAAGCUUAUUCUUAACUCGCUACCUCUAAAGAUGAAAUAUGCAUACCGGGUAGAAGACAAGCUGAAACAGGACCAGUUUUUUUUUUUUUUUAUAGACUUAGUCUUUCUAAAGACUAGCUAGUCCAUAUAUUUUUGUUUUAUUUUUAAAUUUGUUUUGAUUUUGAUUUCUUGCUUUAAUUUUAUUUUGGUUUGAUUUAACUUGGGUUUUUUUAUGAUCAACACAGGGGAAGCCAAAAACAGAGGAAAACAGAGCAAUUUGCACCACCCUACCCCCUUGUGCAAAAUUGCUUUUGUGAGCAUUUUCCAAAAAGCAUGCUCUCGGUCCCUACCCAAAAUCUUAGUGCAAAAAUGCACAGGAAUGCGAAAAUUUUUGCCAUCACUAUUCACUUUGUGCGAAAUUCGCAUUUGCUCUUUAAAAGCCAAUUUCUCUUCUUAAAAUCUAAGUUUGUUCUUCUUCAAUCCUCUCAACCCCUCUUUUCCGAUCACUCCUUUCCAUCCACAAGGUCCUCUCCUUCAUCAUCUCCCAUCCUAAAACCCCACCAUGGCAGCCCAUCUCAAAAGCUUCAUUCCAUAGUCGCGGCCAUCACUAUUCACAACAGCCCAUGCCUUUCAUUUUCAGCUUUUUCUCCUCCUUCCACCAUAAAAAACCCUUCAUUUCUUCACUCAACACUCCAAAUCCAUCCCUAAACCCAACCCAACCUUGAUUUUUCAAAAUCAAAACCUCAAGCAUAGGUUUCAAAGCCUCGAUUUCUUCAUAAGAAACCCAUUGUCGCCGGGUAUGGGAGCUUCAAAAUCUCUCAUUCUCUUCUUGUAAAGCUCCCAUUUCCAAGCUUAGCCACCAUGAAAAACUCCUUUCCUACCUCAGCCAGCAUUUCCCACCCUCAAAAACCAAGAAUUGUUGCCAUUUGAAACCACCACAAUUUCGCAUUUGCACGGGUGAAUAGUGCAUUGUGUGAAAUUCGCACAACACAUUUCCCUUGUGCGAAAUUCGCACCACCCUUCCCUUGUGCAAAUUUUUGAGCUUCUUCAUCCCUACCUUCCCUAAUCCCAAGCCUCUGAGCCUCAUUUCUUUGUUCCAUUAUGCCUAAGACCCGAGGAGGCUAUGCCUCAGCUCCCUAGAGCAGUCAGAGAGCUGCCCCUGUGCAGGCCCCACUAGAUGUACCCCCAUAUUUACCUGAUUCUGUCCCUUAGCGCAGAUACCAUACGAGGAGAGCAGUUGCCAUGCUUGUGGCCCCUACUCAGAUUCCACCUAGGAGUCCUCCUACAAAGAAAGCCAAGACUUCAAAGCCAAGAGAGUCCUCCAGAGCACCUCGAGAUUCACAGUCUCAGCCUCCUCCCACCAAGCGCCCUAUCCUCGCCAGCUCGCCCAUUGAGGGCAACUCCGAUUGCCGAUCGAGAGCAUUCCAUGUCGAGGCAUAUUUUGAUCACUCUAUUUUGCGACAGCAGCCUGAGUUAGGGGAUUCAUACCGCAUACUUGAGAGGUACCACCUUAUACCCUUUAUGACUCCCCCACAGUUCUUUUAUCCUCAAGUAGCUUUAGACUUUUACCAGUCUAUGACUACUCGUGGCGUCCCGGUACCAGCCUCGAUCCUUUUUGCCAUUGAUGGAUGCCAGGGUAUUUUGGGGGCUAGACAGAUUGCCGAGGCUUUCCAUAUCCCUUAUGCACUAGCAGAUCCCGCUACAUUUAGACGUUGGGCCCCACUUUCUGAGUGGGACAUGGUUCGUAUACUAUCUCGAGGGACAUCUUCACAGAGGAUCAUUAUGAGGAAGGAGCUUCCCCCUGGGAUGCUCCUAGUUGAUGUGGUGCUUUGUAACAAUCUUUUUCCUCUUCAGCAUAAAGUGUAAAGGCGAGGGGCCAUUCUAAAGGCAUUAUUCCGUAUCUCUGAGGACUACUACUUUAGCCCCCAUCAUUUGAUUAUGGUCGCCCUCCUCCAUUUUGAGGAGAAGGUGCAUAAGCGGCGUCUUACGAGGGCAAACACCAUUCUUUUAUUUUUCCCUCGACUGCUAUGCCAUGUUCUAGCGCAUAUGGGUUUCCCUGCAGACCCUCAUUCUGAGCACCGUCGCCAUUAUCGAGAGAACUUCUCUCUUGACCAAUGGAAUCAGGUAUGGCUCCAUCAACAUUCCCCAGAACUUCCCGAGCCAAGGGAAGUCCCUCCACAGCCUUUACCAUCUAUAUCUGCUCCGUCCACUUCAGCUCCCUCGGAGCCCGUACCAGAGGCAGCAUUGUCUGACACCCCACCUGUUGUUCCUCCUACCUAAGAGCCACCCAUUACUAUCCCUGGUGCAGAGUAUCGUGACUUGCUCGCUUCUUUCCAGACUCUGACCACUACUCAGACGGCUAUUAUGGAGCGGAUGGACCACUUCCAGCUUCGGUAGGACCAACAGACUCUCAUUCUCUGUGAGAUUCAGCAGCACCUCGGUCUUUUGCCACCAGCUCCACCUGUUGCUCCUGUGCCCUCAGAGCCUUCUACUCCAGCUGAUGAUGCUACACCUAUAGCGGUACCUUCCACAGUUGCAGCGGAUGACCCCUCCUAUCCACCAGAGGAGCCUACUACUUGAUCAUACGAUCACUCCUCUCAUUUUUUGAUUUGUAUCUAUAUUCUAUGUUUUUGGAUGUGUUAUAUAUUUUGGACUACUUUUAUAUUGGGAUUGGAUGUGUUCCAUGUUUAUCUUGUAUAUUGUACUCUCUCAGUUUAUAUAGACAUCUUCCUUUUUGUGUAUUUUAGUUUUUUCUUUUUAUUUCCUCUAAUCAUCACUCUUAUGAUUUUUCUUUUCUUAUGCAACAUGUGGUUUCUCCUAUUCAUUUAGAGUCCCUUACUAUCAGGAGGUAUCACUUCCUCCCUUUUUAUUAUCACUUGUUUUUGGAACAUUGGGGACAAUGUUCAUCCUAGUUGGGGAGAGAGUUGAGGAAGUAAUUUAUUGAAUUUUUAGUUAAGUUAUUUUGCUAACAAAUUUUUUGCAAACUCUUUUUGUUUUCUCAAAGAUAAAUUCUCAAAAAUAAAUGGGAGAAAUUAAAUUCUUAUCUUAUUGCCAUAGUCUUAGAGUUUGUAUUAUGCUUAUUAAAGUUGAUAAAUUGUUGAAGCUCCUUUUGAUUUCAAUCUUAAGUCUUCCACUCUAAUCUUUUCACACACUGAACACAUUAGAUUCCAGUUAUAAGAUGGAAAACUUUCUCACCCCCUAAACUUAGGAAAUUUUCGACUUGGUGCCUUUGACCUCAUUCUAUUAGUGUUGGGACACCUUAUAAAAGGCCAAUGUGUCUUAUGAAAAAAUUUGCUUCACUUGCUUUGAAACUCGAGCAAGGUUCGAGGGGUAUAUGGUGAAAAUCUUUGAAGUCUGGUGCCCUAAGCCUUUAUUGGUUGGGAGUCACUGACCUCACUGCUCGUUACAUAGGUGGAUGGGUGGAGUUCAAAAAAAAAAAAAAAAAAAAAAGGUGCGUUCUUAGCCUUUUAUAUGGGGGUUAGUGUUGCUAAAGUUAGAGAAAAACCUUAGUUGGGGGGAGAAUAUAGUUUGACAUACUAUAACUGGAAACUAAGCACCUUAACACUUAGAUUUUUGUGGAAGAUUAAGAGUUGGUCCUUUGGGAGUGGAAAUUAUUGUGAUACUCAAAUUUGCAUAAUGCCCACUCUUUGUAUGUUGUGAUAUGUAAGUUAUUUGAUGACUCUUGUUGAUGAUUGAGUUUUAUAUCCUUGACUUGCCAUGUGAGAUUUUGAUCUAAUCAUGCCACUUGAUUAUUUUUUCGAGUGAUCAGCAUGAUUUUGUAAAUUAUUAUAUUAUCUAUUUUUCUUUAUUUUUCUCUCCUUCAUUGCUCAGGUACUAGCAAUGUGUCAGUUGGGGGGAGUGAUUACUACCCAAAAAGUGUUAUUUUGCGCCUUUAAUUCAUUAUGUUUUAAGCACUUUUAUGUAGUAGUUCUCCAUCUUUAUUCCAAUUGGCAUGUUAAGGACCUAGCAAUGACUUCUAAUCAUAUUUGUGGCUAGAUUUAUUGUUUUGACAGCUUUUUGGAUCAUUAAGACAAGCCAAGUAAAGGAGAGAAGCAAAGAGGAACACAGAGUGAAGAAAACAGAUGACAGCAGCUGCAUUCUUCCUUCGCACUUUUGGAGCACUUACCAAAGUCCAUUUUCUACAUGCUAUAUACCAUUUCAAAGCUCAGGAAGUCAAUAAUCCAACGCUUCAAACCGUGUACAAUUUGGAGCUAAAAUGAGGAAGAUAUAGCCUUCGGAAGACAACUGCAUCAAGCUAAGUGCGAAUUUCGCACAGCAGCCCAAGCAAGUGCGAAUUUCGCACCACCAACCAUGCAAGUGCGAAUUUCGCACAGCCCAUGCGUCUUUGGUGUGAAAUCUCCUCUGUUCUGCCGACUCCACAUGAGAUCUUUUCUUUUUUAUUUUUUGAUGUAAAUUCCUUUCUUAUCCCUGUAAUUAGCCAAUCACAGGCUUUGCUUUUGUAAAGACUAUAAGAGGGGUGGAAAUCAUCUCUUGAAAAACGACGAACAUAUGUUAUGUUUUACACUUAGUAAAAUACAGGGCUCUCUUUGCUUUCCUUUUCUCUCUACUAUUUUCUUUUUCUUGGAAGCCAAACAACCUCUAAGGAUGUUUUCCCAGACGAUGAGAGGCUAAACCUUUGGUUUCUUGGAGUGAAGGAAGCUGGGUGAAAAGUCCAAAUGCAAAAGUGGAAUACUCUCGUGCAUUAAAUACAGGUAGUUGGAGUUCAUAAAUGGCUUUUAAAUCUAAAGUUUUGCUUUAAAUCCCUUAGAAUCACUUUGAAUGGCCAAUACAUGUUAAGUUUUAGGUCUCUGUGGAUACUUAUUGCUAGAUCCAUAUCAGACCAUUAGUUAUCAUGUACGAGCCAUUGGAAAAUGGCUCAAGGUGAAGACCCAUAGUGUCUAAAGCCAUUAAUGGAACCUGACUACCAUUUCUAUUGACUUUUUAUGGAUUUAAUCUUCAUUGUUAAACCUAUACCGGUUCGGGAAACAACCAUCCUUUAUGUUGUUGUCCCCAAUACGAGAAGAAGAGUCCGUAAUUUCCACUUUGCAUUCUGAACUUGAUCCUAGCAACCCUUAGCUCCGGGAGACUUUCUUUCUUCCAUUUUUACCUAGUUCUAUAUUAGUUUAGUUUCAAACACCACUUCCAAAACAAAUUUUAUUUUCCUUUAAACUUUAAGUUUUUGACAAAGAAAAAACCAAAAGCAACCCUGAAUCAAGUACCAAUUAAACACUAAUCUAAAUUAAAGUGAUCGUGAGAAGUUGCCAACUCAUAUUGGCUGGUGUAAAGUUUUUUUGGGAUUCAAUAGGUUUUGAUAUACUUCCCUUAAACCAUCGCACUUGAAUUUAAAGGCUAGAAUCAAGAAGCCUAAUGAAACUUGGUACAAGCUCAAUUACUGGACUUCUUAUUAAUUAACCAGGAGCAUCAAGUGACAAGAUAUUCACAAAAUCUAUCAAAGCAAUGAAAAUUGUGUAUCCUACAUAAUUUGAUUGUAGAGCUGAUUUCAAAUCCAUUACUCGAACUUAAAAGGAAAAAAAUUGAAGACAAUUUUGUGAGGACAAAUUAAAAUUGUGAGGAUCCCGAAUUCAACAAAUUAGCAUUUCUCUACCGGGUGCAAUUUGGCAAAUUGGUUUGACCUAACUUGAAUCUUGGUGAAGUUGAGAAACCAUUUAUAGUACUCAAGUUAGGAUUUGGUCGAGUUUCUCAACCAAAAGUUAUUUUGGGUUGAGUUCAAUUUUGGGCUAAGUUCAAACCAAUGCUUCAACAAUCUAAGCUGAAUUAAACUCCAUUAAUAUUUUAUAAUAUUUAUAGAAUAUAUUACUAUAUAAUAAUAUCAAUUUUUUUUCUAAAAUAAGUUUAAGGGAAAAACCAUCAAAAUAUAUUAAGCUAACUCUCAGAAAUUUGCCUAUCCCCUUGUGAACACUAUUUGGAAGGAAAAUUAAUUAGGAAGCCUCUUAAGCAAGCCAAAAAGGUAUCUGGUCCUUUGUAGCCUAUGCAUUCCAAAGUACAGGGCCUAAUGAACAUGCGAGCCAAGCAUGGUGCCUACUACUUCAUCACAUUUGCGGAUGGUUAUAUCUACAAGUCCAAAGAAUUGCUUUGAUUUAGAUGUUAUAUGAAUAUUGUUAAAAAAAAUGAAAAGAAAAAACUAUUACAACAUUAAGGAUAAAUCAUGGACUUGAGUAUCCAUUGAAGAGUUUUAAAAAUCUCUAUGAUGAAAAGGAAAUCCAAAGAACAAUCAAUGGCUUCAAGGACUCCACAGUAAAAUGGUUGAACUAAAAAAAGUAACCAUAAACUUUUGGAUAUGGUUCACUCAAAAAGGCACAAGCCAACUAUCUAACAUCUUUCAGGGUGGGAAAUGAGGGUUACUAUUUUGAUUGAAUAGAGUGCCCUCAAAAUCAAUUACUUCAAAUCCAUAUAGUUAAGAAGUCAAACCUAGCUCACUUGUGAUCCUAAGGGUUAGCAAGUUUAGUUCAUGUAAAUUUUCAUAGAUAUUGUGCUAUAAAGGAAACAAGUGCACUUUCAUUAGAUAUUCUAAUAAAUCAAAGGUUGUGUGAUGCUUAGUGAACAACUCAAUGGGAGUAUAAUUGAAAUAAAGUCAUAUGAAGUCAAUUUCUUAUAGGAUGAUAUUUUUAGUAGAGCAGCAUUGAACAAGAGUCUCAAUUUAUUUGAGGCAAUUAAACCAAAGGAAAAUACUAUGAUAUCUCAUAUCGAAUAGGAGAAAAAGUUCUUGACAUUAUAUAUAUGAGCUUCUCUUAAUUAUUUAGACACAUUUUAAUGUUGUAAGGGCUCUUUGAGCCCAAAGUGGAUGAUAUAUAUUUACACGGUUGGGAGUGAGUCAUUACAAAUGGUAUCAAAGUGUAUCCUCAACCAUGGUAUGGGAGUUUAUCUCAUCAUUGUAAUUAUGGGCAUUAAGGUGAAGCUUUCAUGUUUGCAUGAUAUGAUGUAACCAUAAAUGGAGUUCAUUAAUACUUAUAUUAUGACUUCGAAUUUCUAUUCACUAUCCUAUUUAUGAAUUAUGUAUGUUAAGCAUUCAAACCUACAUCACUUGCAUGUACAUGACUUGAGUGAAUUAGGAGUCACAUGAAAAAUCUAAGUCAUAGAUUCCUUACAAGUUAAUGACUCGUUCACAAUUGGUUCAUGGACUUUAAUAAACCAUUUGAGGCUAUAGUGCACUACCUCCUAAUUGGAGGGAUGACUUGCCCUAGUCAUUAGGAUGGGUUCCCCAUGGUGAGUGUACUAGUGUGUUUAAUUAUGUUGGGAAACCUAGAUAUUUCCAUUCCCAUAACCCUAGAUCGUAUAGGUGCAUGCAAAAUACCCUAGGCCUCUAAAUCCUAUGAACCAGAAGCAAAAAUCAAAAUUUUAACAUUCUAUAAUCUAGGGAAAAGUCACUAAAAACUUUGAGAAAAUUAAAGGCUAAUCUUAAUAGAGAAAACACCCAAGAGAUGAGGAAGGGGGUGAAUUGGGUUUUUAAAAAAUAUUUUUCAAACACCACAAAUUCAAGAAAAUGAAACACAAAUAUAAAGAUAUAAGGUUAGAAAGAGCAAACUUAGAUUUUAUAGUGGUUCAGCACUUCCUUGCCUAUGUCCACUCUCCUCAACCUCUUAACCGAGUGAAGGUUCCACUAUACUUGAAGCUUCAACUAAGCUUUUAAUCACCUUUACACUUGGAUUCCGGCUCCAAUGGGCUAUUACAUAAUCCCUUCAAGUCUUAACUCACUUGAAUCUUUUAGCAUUCAAAUAACAAGUUUGAAUCUCUCAACCUAGCCCAACAAGGGCUCAAAUACAACUUAAAUGUUAGGAAGAAUCACAAAGGUGCACUAAGAAAUAUGCAAAUGGAUAUUGAAUGCACUAAGGAAAGAAUGAGAGCUUUUGAGGCAAGAACAAGUAGGCAAACAAAUAAAUGCAGGUGUUCUCUACCUCAUAAAUGAAGUGGAGUUCUCAAUUUAUAGGUUUCUAGCCUUAAGAGUAAAAAAUGCCAAAAAGCGGCCAUGAUCAGUCGAGUUAGGGUUACUAGCCAUUGGAUAAUAAAUGCAUUGUAGGUGAUUGUUACGCCUCAACCGGUUUUUGACCAAAUCUCGACCAGAUCUCGACCGAGAAGGCAUAUCCCUUGACCAGGAAUGCAAAGCUAUAAGAAGAGAGAGAAGAUUUUUUGCAUUUCUCGACUGGACCUCGAUCAAGAAGGUGUAACCGAUCGACCAGUGCCCUAGCCGAUUGAGCCAGUUGGCUAGUGCCUUGACGAGUUCACCAUUUUUUGCCUGAAAACUUUUUUUUUUUUUUUUUGUUCUUUUCUCUUCUAACACUUAGGCAAGGUAUUUAGGUAAAUUAAUAUGCCAAUUUUGAAACAAUUUGUCUAAGGUUCAUCUGAUAAAACUCGGGUUUUGACGAAAAUGUAACUUUAAUGCCUAAACUGAGUUUUUAAAGUGCAUGAAAAGAUAUGAAAAUCCUAUGUGCACAAUGCAUUCAUCUUAGAUAUGUUUCCUAUUAUUAAAGGGUCUUUCAAUUGUCUUGAUCUUGCAUCCAUUGGGUUCUUUUAUGAAUUUCCAAACUAAUAUAUGAAAUUCUUUAUAAUUCAAACCAAUUAAUGACUUAACCAUGGUUUGUUAUCAUCAAAACGUGAUUAGGAGAACCCUUGGGCUAACAAACUUUACAUUUGAUUUAAAUGGUUCUUAAAUCAAUUAUGCUUAGUGAAUGUGAAGCCUAAAGAGUCCAGAGGUCUCACACAUCGAAAAUCUUUUGCUUGAUGACUUGAUCCACGAUCUUGCCACUCCAAAAUGGGGGCUUUUGAAGAGAGAAAUCCUAGGCUCUCUCUUUUUAGAGUUAGAAGAUGAUUGUCUCUCAAAAAGUGAUUGCAACCCUAACCUUUAAAUGGUAUUUAUAGAAUUUCCCUACUGGGCUUAAAUGACUUGAGCCCACUAAGGCUUGGGUCACUUAAUCUUGUAUAAAAUAGGUCUUAAUUGAUUAAUUAACCAUACAAGAUCAUCUAAUUACCUAAUUCAUGUCAAUGAGAUAAUAAAGAGAAAACAAAAAAUAUAAAUAAAUUUCUAUCUGUUACAUCAUGUCAUGCUUUUUAGGGCUCAAUCCUAAUAGGUUACACAUUAGAUAGGAUUUAUGGUGAGUCAGACAUUGGUCAUUAGGUAGUCUUGACUUCACGAAGCUACUAUGUUGCAUAAGCUCUCAACCUUGAGAGAAUAUUGAUCUAGUGCUAAGGUCUUCAAUGGCUUUGACCCAUGAGUGAGACCCUAAAGUGGUCAUAUAUUCUCUAUAAAUUGAGUCACUAUGAUUGAGGCAUGUGAUAAUGGGUAUUCUCAAGAUAAGCACCAUGAUAUCUUAAGGGAUUGAAACAUUAUAUCCCCUUAGAUGAUCAUAAGGACAUGUGAUUGUGAAAAUUAUGGUCAUAAUAAUUCCUUAAGUGGAAUUUGACAGAUGCUCUUGAAGAGAUAUAGUAUGUCAAUUGAUCACAUAAUAGGAGGAUCUAAGACUCAAGGAUUGUAGAAGUAGUCUUGAGAGGUUGAUAACAUUCAUUUUGUUAAAUUAUGGAUAAUAAUUCAUGAGGAGCUUGCAUGCAAUUGCUAGUAGGUCACAAACUGAAGUUUUCUAUCUCGGUCUAAUAUCAUAAAGAUACUAAAGUGUAGUUGACUCUCUAGAGUUAGAUUUUGAGUCAACUUUAAAAUUGGAUUUUAAGGGAGCUAGUACUUCCCUAUGGAUCCUAGUGGUUCCCACUCAAACUCAUAUUCCUUGGUCAAAAAAUAUUUGAGGAAUAGUAGGAUUCUUUAUUUAUAUGUGUGUAUAAGAGCAUUUUGGUAAAUACAGAAGGUUGCACAAGUACAUAUAAAUAGUCUUUUAAAUCAGAUAAUUAAUUAAUUGAAGCUUAAUAGAUAAAUUUAGUUAAUUAGGACCUAAUGAGUUAGAUUAAGUAACCCAAACAUAAGAUGAGCUCAAGUCACUCGAGCUAAGAGGUAAGCCUAUAUAAACUCCUUAAAGGGUUUAAGGCUUAGUACUUUUCAGCUAUUCAAUCUUCUACCUUAAUAUCUAUCCCCGUAGAGAGGAUUCUAACACCCUUGUGUAUUAGGAUACAAGAAAGAGAGUUAUCAGGCAAAAGAUCAUGAGUUAUUUGAGAUCUUAAUUAACCUCUUCACCAAUUAGAUUUAAUUCUUUGAGCACUUAAAUCUAAUAUUCAUUGUUCUGAAUUCUCCCAUUACAUAGUUCUAGCAUUUCUACGAAGAUAGUGUCAUGCACCUAAUGAUCUAGGGCUUGAAGUUAAGUAAUCUAGAUGUUCCAACACAUCAGAAGUAUAAAUUUUUUAAUAAUGUUCUCUUAUCCAUACUUGUGAAAUAUGGAAAGCUAUAGUGAAAUAACAUAUGAAGUUUAUUAGCAAGAACUCUAUUUGAGAAUUAAUUGAACUAUUGUUAAGACAUAAGACCUUAAGGAAUAAGUAGGUUUUUAAGGUCAAACUUUAGGCAAAUGAUGCAAGUUGUUAAACUUAACUCAUGAAGAAAGGCUACAACCAAAAUGAGAGUGUAGAGUAUAAAAAAAAAAAAAAAAAAAAAAAAAAGAACUUCUCAUGAGAAGUGAGGUUUGCCUCAACUCUCCUUAUUCAACCAUUAUCACAUUUUGGAUUUGAAAUUAUAUCAAAUAAACAUUCAAAUCAUUUUUUUUUCAAUGGAGAACUAAAUAAGAAGAACUAUAUAGAUCAACUAACUUGUUUUAUGGCAACUAAAUAGAAAGUCAAAGUUAACAACUACAAAGGUCCAUUUAUAGCCUACAAUAAUCAUUUAAACAAUGGUAUAUUACACUAAUGGGUUUAUGAUGGUCUAAGAACACUAUUACAUGUUUGUUAAAUGGUGUAAGGGUAGAUUCUUUAUUUUUUAUUUAUUUAUUUAUUUUUUUGUAUACAAAUGAAAUGUUAGUUAGGGAUGAUAAUGAGAUGGUUGCCUCUAAAGUGUGGUGGUCGUCAACUUUUAAAAUGAACAACAUGCUUAAAGCAAACUAUGUGUUCAAAGUUAUGAUUCUAAUCAAUCAAUCAAUGAGACUUUUUGGUUUGUUUUACAAAUCAUACACAAUGAAUAUUCUUGGAAAAAAUCUAGAUGUAAAAUUGAAAAUCUAUUAGCAUACAUAUACAGAAAGAUAAGACCUUAAGCUUUAACAUGUGUCGUAAGACUUUAAAUGAAUAGGAAAAGAUCACUCAAGGUUCCUAUAUGCUAGCAUUGUUAGUAGCUUAAAGUACCCAAUGAUGUGUACAUGAACUAAUAUUUGUUAUGUAAUUAGGUUAGUAACUUCUAAUUAGAUCUAAACCUUGCUUACAAAAAAGCAAUGGACUGGAUGCUUUCGUACCUUAAAGUCACCAUAGGCUAUAUAAUUUUCUAUUGAGGAUUGAAUUUGGACUUGAUUAGCUAUAACAAUGAUAAUUGGGGUAGCAUCCUAAAUGAACCCAAAUCCACACAUGGUUAUAAUUUUACAUAUGCUCUAUGAUGGUAGCAUAUAUUGGUGAAAUAGAAAACAAUCAUGUAUAACAUUGUCUACCAUGCAUGUAGUUAGGAGUACAUGACUUGUCGUUUAGGAAAGUGACUAGUUUAUGAUGUUCAUACAUAUUUUUCACAAUAUUGCUUGUUCUUUUGAGCAUACUACUAUUUAUUGUGAUAGCAUGGAAACUUUAGCCUAUGUCAAAGACCCCCCCAAGUAUCCAUAGUUGAACCAAACACAUCAAUCUUAAACAUUAGUUUAUAUGAGACAUGGUUGCAUAGGAACAUAUUUCUAAUUGAUAAAUGGUUAAAAAUCCCACCCUCACCCCCUUGUUGACUAAGCUAAUAUGUAAAGAUGUUUAUUAGGGUCAUGUUGAGAGCAUUGUAUUAUUUAGAUUAUGAUUACAUGGGAGUUAAGUUAAGAGCAUUGGAUCAUGUAUAUUAUGAUUACAUAUUAUAUAUUUCAAUUAACCAUUAUAUCUAUGAUUUAUUCAUUGUCCAAUCUUGUUUGAUGGUGCCAUUUAAUUAUUUGUUUUACUUUAUUGACAUACACUUUCAUUACUUUGCACAAUUGAAACAUAAUGAGUCCAAACCACUUAGAUAGUGUGUUAGAUCAUUGAUAUUUAUAAGACUCCUAUUUGUAUCCAAUAAAACUUGCAUGUUAGUAGCGACCAAGUAUAGAUAGUCCUAUAGUACACAUUUGUAAUGGAGUCAAUUGCCAAAUCUUGUUAAUGUAGUGCUUGAUUUAGUAAGCAUGUGCAAAACUUGAGUUCUUUGUUCGAUGCAAGUAAACUAAGAUUUGUACAAUAUAGAAGAUCUAAGGUACACUCAUAAUGAAGAUCUCCAUGUCAGCAUGUAUUUUCAUACUAUAUCUUCUUGGCAAUCAAACAAGAAUGAAUGAAUAUAUUCAUAGCUACUCCCUCAUCAUGUGCAUUAAUCUUAUAGGUCAUUAUAUAGUAUAACUUUUAUGCCCUUGUGAUUUUCAGUCAUAAGUUACAAGUAUGGUGUAGUUUUAAAUAUUUUUCUAAGGGGAUUCACCAUGUUUAACUCAAUGUGAAUAAAAGUGUUUAAGAUAUAACGAGACACCUUUUAGGGAUGAAUUACACUGGUUAAGAUGAAAUUUAGUUUAAUACUCUUACACCUUUCUUAUCAAUGUGUUCGACAGUUGUACAAUCCAUUAGUCAAUAUGGACAUGGAUGAUAAUGAUAUAGUUGAGAGAAAUGCAUGACGUUAUUUUGCCUACUAUGCAUGAGUGGGAAACAAUGGAGUUUCUAUUUCAUGAGAUACUCUUAGUAGAACUUCAUUAACUAAGAGCUUGAGAGUAAGUUGCAUACUUAUCAGUUAAGAUUCCUCAUGCGAGGAAAGUUUAGUUAAGAUUCCUCUCGUGGGAGGAGGUUCACAUUUAGAUUUGGUCAGAAUAUAUAAGAGUUGUUUGUCCUUUGCAAUUCCAAUUCUAGUCUUUUUGCAUGUUUUCAAUUUAGUUUGUGGCAGUUGUUAAAUACUUCUACUUUAAUUUGUAGCAAUUAUAAUUUUUAAAGCUUACUAUUUAGGUUUAGAUUUACUACAUGCUUAUUAGAUAUCUUAAUUCCUAUUGUAUUCUCCUUGGUUAAUAAUCUUUCAAUUUGAUUGUGGAGUUCAAAGAUUUUUACCAAAAUAGGGAUCGGGGUUUUCAAAGUUAGGAAAAGUAUUUAAUAAAAUUAAUUUUUGAAAAAGUUUGCAAGCUAAAUCUUUCAAUUGAACCUAAUGAGUUUACAUACUAAAUCUCUCAUUUUCAGCCUUGGUUGUUUCCACUCUUUGCAAUUUAAUUAGUUUUUUUUAAUAUACAUAUAUAUAUAUAUAUAUAGAUAAUUCAUUUUGUGUACCUAUAUACUCAAGUUUUUGAGUAAUUAUGAGUUGUAUUGUUAUAUAGUAGAAUUUGAUAAACUAAAAAUGCUUACCUUUGAACAAUCGAGUACAAUAGCACAUUUGUGUGGAUAAAUCAUAGCUACCAACUUGAUUCUCCAUGCCUCCUCUAUUAGGCUGACUAAGAAAAUGGAUUAAUUUCACAAGAACACCUUAAGAAUAAAAAUGUCAAGAAAAAGAGAAAAAUCAUGCUUCAUCUAAUUUGACUGCAAGACUUAAAGGAAAAAACAUAAUAAUAUAAUAGUUAUUAUAAUGAAUAUAAUAAAAGGAAAAAUUGUCAUGUUCUUCCCAAUACUCAUAUAACCCCUUUCAAUGAAACUUUGUAAGCUCUACUAAUACAAAAUAAUGGUUCAUAUAGUAAAAGCUCAAUAAAUGAAUCUUUGAUAAAUUGAUAAUCUUACUUAUAAAACAAAAUCUUCUAGUCUUAACUCAUACCAAUGUACUAAAUUAGCAAUCUCGUUAAAUACAUAAGAAAAAUAUUUUCAAAAAUCAUUAAGGGCUCAAGAAAUAUAAACUAAUAAUUGAUGAAGUAGAAACAAAAAUUUAUAGUAUAGCAAAUAGAACUUCGUAAUAUAGUAUUAAGUAAUUUUUCAUAACUUUUGUUUUUCUAAAUUCACUUCUUUUAGAAUUAUCACAUAUUUGAAAUAGCUUUAUCUUUUUCAACAUUAAGUUUUGAUGCCACAUCUUUUUUUAGGAGUCUUUUUAUCUUUAAUUUACAAUCAAUAACUUUUUUUUUUCUUCAGUCUCUUAGGUUUCUAUGUAUUAACUUUUUACCAUGUUUAUUAUUUUUAAAUUUAUUAAGUCAUACAUGUACUAAUAAUGUACAGUAACAACAUAAUACUCUUCAUCAAUUAAUAAAUAUUCAUUUAUCUAUAAAUCAAUAACCUUGCUAAGAUCAUAAUUUUUCUUAGUACCAAGAGUACUAUUUUAUAAGAGUUUUUCUCUAUAUAGUUCCUUCAUUGUAGGAAUUUCUUUGGGUUAAUAUUACUAAAGUUGUAAUUUUAAAAAACAUAUAUAAUGGAAAUGAAGAGAAAUUUGAAAUCUAUGAAUUAGUGUUUUAUAUCAUUCUUUUUUCCUAUGAAUGCUAAAGCCAUUGUCAAAUAAAAAGAGUAAAUAAAAUAAUUAAUCAAGUAAUUAGUUGAAAGUGAAAUAGGUGACUUAAAACUAUUGCUUUGGUACAUGUUUGUUUGAGGUAAAUAUAGUAGAUAAUAAGAAAUAAAAUCCUCUAACUAUGUUUAUUUGAUAGAAUAAAAAAGUGAGUGUGUGGUUGCUCCAUAGGAGAAGACCACAUGUUAACCAAAGAAUAAGUAACUAGAAAGCUUACACAAGUGUUAAAUGAUCAAUUUCUCACCUAAGCACAUUAAUGAGAACUAAAUGUUGAAGGUCCAUGCCUCCAUGUGGGGAGACCUUAAUUGCUACCUUAAAGGGGCAGUUUAAAAGUGGUCACAUCCUCUAUGCCAAGUUAGUAUUCCAAAAACUAAGAAAGUUAACCUUUGAGUUGAUGCUUAUUUGUUUGGUAGUUUCCUCAUUCUUCUUACUAACUUGACCUUUGAAGGCUCUAUGACUGUAAGGAGCCUAGAGUGGUCACUUUAGGUUCCUUAUUAUUGUAAGGUCCUAACCAUCCAUUGAAGUAAGAAAGUGAACUAAUACUUGGAAAAAUGGUGUCAUCUAUGGUGAAGAUACAAAAAUUCAGCUCACCAAAAAAUCUUAGUAAAGCUACUAAAAAACACCCCACCCCGAGGCAAGGACCUUCAUUUUAGUACUCCUUGAGGUCUACCCAAAUCAAAGACCCGACGUUGAAGAAAUGAAGUCAACUAAACUUAGUUCCAUGCAUGAUAAGGUUGAAAAGCCUGCAUAAAAACCUACAGAAAGCUUGCCUCUUUAUAAGAAUAACUUGAACAUAAAAAGGAAGAAGACCUAUAAAAGGAAAUCAUAAACAACAAAGAAAAAGAAGUUUUUCCCUCCUUUGAAAAAGCUUUCUGUGAAUGCAAAAACCUAUUUUUUUUUUUUUUAUCAAGAAACCUUCCUUUGUAUCCAAAAAUUGGUGGAAUAAAAAUUUUUAAUUACAUAUGAAGAGUUUUAGCUUCUUCAUAUGGGAAUGCAUUAAAAGCCUUGAAGACAUUGUUUAGAUCUAUAGCAACGGUUAGGCAAUAGAAGACUAUGUAAUAGAGUCUUGGUAGGAAAAUGUAAUCAUGAUAGAAAUGAAGUGGAGCAAUGAGUGAGAGCAAACCAUUCAAUAAAUGAAGAAGCUCACUAAAAGAAGCAAUCGACUCAUUCAAGAAAAUGUUGCCUUCAAGGUAAGGGUAAACAAAUGCCAAUGUGAUUUUGACUAGGAACUCUCAUUGGUAAGCACCAAUAAGAUGCAAGUUAAUGAAUAAUAGUUAUCAAAGCAAUUAGACCAACAUAUAGAUUAAAUUGGGAGAGAAAGGUGAAGCAAACCUUAAUUAAACUAACCAAAUAGACCACCUUGCCAGAGGUCCCAAUGCUCUAAGGGCUUCUUACCACUAAAGCUACCACAAAAUGCAUAAUCUUAGUGGAUAAGGCGAUUGAGGCUAAGUCCCUUUAGGAGGAGGAGGAGGCCACAUGAGGGUUUUCCCUCCCUAAGUUUAAUUUCUUUCAAUGAAACUAAAGGCACUCUAGAUAACUCAUGCAUUUCUAUGCAUAUGAUGAUCUUAGAGAAGGGAAAUGAUCGACUUUUAUGCAAAAUCUUCUCCUUCAUCCUCCAAGGACUAACUUUGUAUUGUUUUAUCAACUUACCUUAGAGUUUGUUCCUGAUAUUGAGACCCUAAGGGCGAUGUCUGCCUCCUAGUACAUGCACUUAACAAGACAAAAGAAAAGCCUCAAAUAACCCAAGGUAGUUAUAGCUACCAUCCAUGGUGGCUCAUCUACUAGAUUUGAGUAACUAGACAGGGUAUCAAGAUGUUACAGAAGCAUAUGGCGAUUGAAGCAAAAGUCCUCACAUCCUUGCAUGAAGCAACUACCACUUGUCCAUAUGUCAUAUGCUUCUCUAAUAAAGACUUAAAAGGAGUCCAAACCCUGCCCAAGAUCCAUUGGUUAUUACUUUAAGAAUUAUUGAAUACAACAUGCACCUAUUCUUAGUUGACCUAACAAGUUUAGUUAACUUGCUAAAUAUAUUAGCCCAUAUAUGAACAAAUGAAUAUGGACGAAGGAAAACUAGUUUCAAGUCUUGGGUCAUUAGUGGGACUAGACAAAGUCCUAUGUGGCUCAACUAGGGAAGCAGCUCUAAUGGUUUCAAUUAGUUGUUGCCAUAUAAUGACACAAUUCUUUGUUAUGGAUAUCCUUUUCCCGAUAAUGCCAUUAUGGGAUGAACAUGGAUAUACAACCACAGAGGAACACUAUUCACAUACCAUCAUACAAUUAAAUUCCUAACACUACAAGGAAUAUGGGAAAUAUAUCGGGACUAGGUGGCAACAUGAGUAUGCUACACCAUACCCCUUAAAGCAGUCAACAAGUGCAUCAACCAGGACCUUUAGGAAGUUCAUAAAUCAAAACUCAAAUACAAAUUAGUAGGUGACCCAAGAAAGCAAUUAGAGAACCUAUGGAUUCAUUAUUUGAAAGCCCCUAAACCUAGGAGGUUCCUUCUAGUCCAUGUAAAAAAAAAAAAAAAGGUUUAAGAUGGCUACUAGAAAAAAACACAUCUUUGCUAGGAAACUACAGGACAUCAUGGGCAUUGAUCCCCAAGUCACAUGUCAUCGACUCAACAUAAACCCUAGUGUUUAGCUCCUUAAAAACAUUAGAUUGUGAAAGAAAUGGUAUUUAGGCUCUUAGAUGCUAGAUUUGGUCAUCUAGGUCUUUUAACAACAAAUAGAAGUCAGUAUGCUAGUUUACAUUAAUAACAUGUUAGUAACAAGUAAGAAGAGGAAUGAGUACCUGAUUGACCUCCUAAGAACAUUUCAAACUCUUAGAAAUUACUAAAUGAAGCUAAAUUAGUGAAGUGCACCUUCAAAUGUAGGGUAUGGAAAGUUCCUUAGGUACUUGGUUACAUACAAAGGAAAAGAAGCUAACCCAAACAAAAUAAAAUCAACUUUGGAGAUACCAAUGACCAAAAGGGUUGGAGAAGUCCAAAAGCUCACUAACAAGAUUGGUUCUUGAAAUGGAUUUAUAUAUUGGACAAAAAAUAUAUGUCCUCCUUUAUUUGACAUUAGCAAGAAGGGAAAAUGGACUAAAGGAACCAAAAAAUGCAACUAAGCCUAUGAAUCACUAAAGCAUUACAUGAUGCUAACCUUCACUUUGGAUAAACCUUAGGAUAAGGAGGUCUUACAAGGUCUCAUUAGUAGUAGUAAGUGGAGUGUUAUCUCAAAAAAAAAAAAAAAAAGGAAAAGAGGAGCAACCAAUGUACUAUGUCUAAAAGGCCCUCUUAGAUGUGGAAACCUGAGAUACAUAUAAAUAUUGAAAAACCGAUGCUUGCCCUUUAGAUUGCCACAUUGAAGCUUCAAUGUUACUUCCAAGUGCAUGUUAUUAAGGUAAUGACAAAGUGAUGAGAACUCAAACUUAAUACUUUAAUGGCUUUAAAGAGCCCACUUUAGUGUGUUUGAGGUACCAAAAAAUUAACCCAAGGUUUUGUUUUUUUUUAUAAUACCUUAGAAAAUUAUGUUUGAUGCAUUCUAUGACCAUUCUACAUUCUUUAAGGUGUUUUUUUGUUAGGAUAGAGUCCUUAAAAGUAUGAUAUGAUGUAAUAAAUUUGGAAUUCAAUAUUUAUUUAAUGAUGUUCUAGUUUCACUUUUAUCUAUCCUUAUUCCAUGUAUUGUACUUUAUGAGCAUUCUUAUCUACAUUUUUUGCAUUGCAUGUGACUUAAGUGCAUUAGGAGUUGCACAGAAGAUCUAAGUCAUGGGUUCCUUGCAAAUAGAUUACUUGUUCACAUUCAGUUCAUGGGCGUAGGCAAACCAUUAGAGGUUGCAAUGCGCCACCUCCUAAUUGGAGGGAUGGUUGGUCUUGACUAUUGGGAUGAGUUUUCCAUGAUGAGUGCACUAGUGUGUAUGGUUGCACAUUGAACAGGACCUAUGGUGAUUUAUGACUUAAACCUAUCGAGUAGUCAUGACUCCAUUGAGCUACUUCAUUGUAUUAUCUCUCAAACUUGAGAGAAUAUUGAGUUUGUGCUAAAGUUAAUAGUGGCUUUGGCUUAUAAGUGAGGUCGUAAGCUGAUCAUAUAUUCCCUAUGGAUCAGGUCACUAUUGAUGGAAGUCGAUAGCAAUGGGUAUUCUUAAUAAAGGCACCAUGAUAUCUAUUGGGAUUGAGAUAGUGUGUCCCUUGGGUGAUCUUAAGGAAGUGUGUUCAUGGAAACUUUGGCUAUAGUAGUUCCUUAAGUGGAAUUUGACAUAGACUCUUUGAGAGCUAAGAUAUGUUAAUUAAACACACAAUAGGAAGAUCUGUAACUCAAGGAUGGUAGAAGUAGUCUUGAAAGGCUGAUAGCUUUCACCUUGUUAGACUAUGAACACCAAUUCAUAGGGAGAUUAAACACAAUGGACAGUAGGUCAUGAACCCAAGCACUUAGUGUCUCCGUUGUUAUUUACAUAAGAUACCGGAGUUCAUUUGAUUCUUUGUAGUGGGAUGUUGAAUCAACUUUAAAAUUGGACUAUAAGGGAGCUAGUAUUCCUGUAGGUCCUAGUGGUCCUCGCUAUAAGCUCAUAUUCCUUGUUACAUGGGUAAUGAGGGUUGGAUUGACUUUAGGUUCACUUUUGUGCAUAAGGGCAUUUUGGUAAUUAUGCAAGGUUGUAUAGGAGUAAGUCAUCAAGGUCUCUGAACUGGGCUAAUUGAUUAAUUAGUAGGCCCUAUUGGGUUAGUUAAUCAAUUAGAACCCAUUUUAAACUAGAUUAAGUGACUUCAACCCAUGUGGGCUCAAGUCACUUAAGUCCACUUAGAAACCCUAUAAAUAACCCCUAGGGGUUAGGGUUUCCAUAACUUUUGUCUUCCAUCAUCCAGAGAGAUAGAGAGCCAUAGCCUCCACCAUUUUUUCCUCCUUAUCGAAAGUGUUCCAAGAUCAAGGUUCGAGUCAUUUGGCAAAAGACUUCGGGUUUACGAGACUUCUAUGAUUUCAAUUUUCAUCUUCACCAUGUGGAUUUGAUUCGGGAACACCUAAAUCUAAUGUAUGGUUUUCUUUAGCACUUUUUGAAUCCUUUUUAAGUAUAAAAAUGUUAUUUUUCCAUUGUGCAUAAGAUUUAGAAAAAGCCUAAGAUAGUUAUGCAUGUUCCUAACUUGAUCCGGACUUGGGAAAUGGAGAGAGAUUCGGGUUUUUCCCAUCAUUUUUGGUGCAAUAGAACCUUGUUAGGAAAUCAUAUAGACAAAAAUGCCUAAGUAAGGAGGAAACAUAGAUUGCACACCUAAAAGGUGUGCAAGACUUAAUCAUGCAAUUCUUUCUUAGUGUAAAGCCACAUAGUGCACCUCCCAUGUAUACCUUAAAGACCAAACACACAAGAUCUCUCUAAUGCAUUGGACCAAAUUUCACACCCUAUUCAAGCAACCCAAUCUGCAAACCUCUUAAGUGCUUUAAGCUAAGAUGUUGUGCACCCCCUUACUUGAGUCAACAAGAUGUGUAGUAGUGCAGCCCCUUGAUGUCAUCUAAAUUACAAACCAUUCUUACCUCUACAAUAGCUAAGUACUUAAUAAUUCUUCUAAUGAUUGGCUUACACACCAAAGUAGUAUGUUGUUUAUACCUCAAAGUCUUCAAUUGUACUACCUAAACGUACCUAAGCCAAAUUACAUAGAGAAAAAGAUGCAACUACCGACCAUAAGCUAACACAUCAAGAAUGAUGGCGGGUUGAUUGCAAUGACAAAGGACUUGACCCUUAAUAUAAGAAGAGACAAGUCUUGAGGAGGGGGGGACAAGUUUUGCCUAUAAAUGGAGGAUUGUGAAUAUACAAGUGGAAGCAAAUUAUAGAAAGUGAAAUUGUAGAUAAGUUUUUUCUGCUUGUGGGAACAAAAGUAGGAAUAAGAAUAACUUAAUGUAAUUUUAGUUUUUAAUUUUCCACUGUAAUCUUUUCUUUUCAUUAUAAAUGUUCCCUAAUUUCUAGUUUAAUGAGUUUUCUAGUCUUUUUAAUUAACAUCACAUUUCAGUUUUUCAAUUUCAACUUACAAAUUUGCAUUUUUAGUUCUUUACUUAAUUUUAACAUGCUUAGAUAACCUUUAACACUCUAAGGGGUGAGAGGAGCUCAAGUCUCCCAUAUCUUAGUUUAGCUCUCUAUUGGUUUAUCUGUGCAUUAGUUACAAGCAAUAUGAUCUCUAUUAGUAAUUAUAAUGACCAAAAGAAGUAACCAUGGGGAGAAAAGUCUAUGUUGCAUUGGUUGUGAGCGUUGUAAGUCAAGCAACCUUGGAAGCAUACUUAGGCAUUGUUUUAAUGAUUCUUUCAACUAAGUAUAGGCCUAUUGACAUGAAAAGAAUUUAUCUAAAUCAUUUGGUUAUAAGGAUAUUAAAAAAAAAAAAAACAAUUAGAGGGAGAUGAACGUUAUUAAGGUGGUUCUUGUUCAUUUGAAGCAGGAAACCUUUUUGGUAUAAAUCCUUGCUUUGACCCUAAAUCUGAAAGCAUAAGUUCAAAGCCUUGUUGGUGAGUUGUAUCUAAAAGUGGUGAUCCUAGUGAAUCUCUAGGUUUGAGGUUUUCUUUCCUUUAAUUUUCUAUCUUUUAAACUUUGUGUGUGUAUGUCUAUUUUAUUUAUAAAAUCAUUUUUCUAAUCUUUUAGCUAACAUUCACACCCCUAAAGCUAUUACCUUAGUUGCUACCAAUUAAAGUUCCUUGUGGAGGCAACCUAACAAUUAUAAAAUUAUUAAUUUUAUUUUUUUAUUUUUGGUUAAGGAGUUGAAAGUUUCAAUGAAUGAUCAAGUUUAAUUUCUCUUUGUAAAACUUAACUAUUAAAUAUAUUUCCUAGUUUUGAUAAAAGAAAUGAAUUAGAGAAUGACAAACCAAAAAUUAGUGUCGUCACUAGGGUACUUUCAACAUUGAUGACUCUAAAGGUAUUUUUGUGUAUAUGCUUGUUGUUUUAGAAGCUUAACAAGUAUAUUUCACCCACUCCCCACCUCUCUUUUAGUUGGAUUUUUUUCUUUUUUUACAUAAUUUUUUUUCUUUGGAUUUUCUUUUUCUACUCAGUUAGCAUUUUCAAUUGUUAAAUCCAACAUUUCCAGCAUUUUCUUUAAAGUGAUAUGAUGUAUUAGGGAAAUGAUUUUAAAGGAAGGGAACUAAGAGUGCAUUUGGGAGCGAUUCUACAAAGCAUUUCUAACAUUUCUAACACUUGAGUGAUAAAAAUUUUCAAGUAUUAUGAAUAUUAAAAGUGUUUCCUAGAAUCACUUCCAAAUAGGUUCUAAGUAAUCAACUAGAAGAAACAAUUUUAGAGGAAGGACACUAAGUAAUUAACCAAAAAAAAGUGAUUUUAGAGGAAGGACACUAAGUAAUCAACCAACCCCUAGUUAUCCUUUUCCUCAACACACCAAACCACCACCGUCUCAUAUCUAUUUUCCAAAUUCAACUAUUGGUGGUACUAAUAGAAGUGUGAUGAAUGGGGGUUUUAACCCCAAUAACUAGCCACCUAAGACCAUGAGGGAUUACCUAGUCGGGCCAAUGCUCCUUUUUGCUUGAUAUUUUUUUUUACGCUUUUCAAAUAAACAUUGAGCUUGAAAUGAUCCAAUUUCUAUCUCUAUUUUAUGGAAGGGAGGACGAAAAUCCUUUUUCUUAUUUAAAAGAAUUUGAAUAGGUAUGGUUUAUUUUGGUAGAACUGGAUUUGAUAUCUCUAUUUUAUGAGCCUUCAUGAAACCUGGAUCAUUCGAAACUCAAGGUUUUCUUUUUUCAUUAAAGAAAGAGGAUAAGCAUUGGUGGUAUAGCAUGAGACUCUAUAGGAUAAGUUCUUAGGAUACUUGAUAAAAUAUUUUUUUCACAAAUUUAUUUUGGUAUAUAAAAUUGUUUCCUUUGAAAGACAAAUUAAAAUUUUUUGUUUUAUAGAGAAUGAGACUUUUCAUCAUUGUUAUGAUUAAUUUAAAGCUUUUUUGUUUAACUUCCUUACCAUAGUUUUGAAAACUCAAGGAUUGCUUCUUCUUUUUAAAGGGGACCAUCCCCCUAAAUGAAAUAAUUUGUUGAAAACAUGACUGGUGGGUACUUUAUACAGGAGAAACCAAAAGAAGCACUUAAGCAUUUAAAAUUGCUUGCUGAAAAAUCAAGGGUUUGGGACCCCUUAGUCCUCAAGUGCAUCUUCUAGAACGUGAAAGCCAACCCCAACAACAUCUAAUCUCUCAUCUCAUCUCUCAAUUUAUCAUUUCCCCUUAGAACAAGAGUUUUGACGAAGAUGAUUUUUGGAUGCUGUAAGAGGACGAAGCCACUGAAGUUAAGGAAAAGGAAACUGUGUACAUAGCAGUUGAAAAGAAUUUGAAGAGAACUUCCAACAGGUUGCAAAUAAGGUUAUAAGCUGCAUUUUUUCUUCUUUUCCAAAAAAAAAAAAAACCAAAGAUAGAAAAAGAAAUCCGUAAAGAGCAAGAAACAGAGGAGGAGUGGAGCAAUGUAUUGCAUGAUCACACCUACUUUAUUUGUUUCUCAAUUCCCUUCUCUUUGCAACCCAAAAAUGUUGAUCUUCAAGGUAUCAUCAGAGGGCUUCUCAAUAUCUCUUCUAAUGAAAGUGGCUCUUAACUAGAGGGGAGGGCAUCCCAAAAAUUUUAGGAAACCAUGAAGAAAAAUUUAUCAAAGUGGAUGCUUCCAAUCUACCUGUGGGAAGCAAAGAAAAAGUGAACCAUUGGCUAGCUAGAAGCUAGCCAAAAACUUGUAAAUAGCUUUCAUUUUUUUUUUUCUUUAUUAUUUUUGUUUUUAUUGCUUUGGCCAAUUUAGUGUGUAGGAGCACCAUCAUUGUGAAGCCUAUAAUAUUAUGUUCUCAGUCCACUCAAUACAUUUGGGUAACCUUUAUCAUCUCAUAAGAACUCAAGUAUAAAUUUCUCUAUACUCUAUUGGUUUUAUCAUACUUCAGAGUAGGUGUAAAUUGUUAGCACCAGGAAAGUGUAGGACAUAUAGGAAUUGCGCACUUUUGAGGUUUGCUAACCCAACUUGUAUGAUGACUUAAAUUACGUAUCUGUAGAGCAUAACUCAAAUUGUACACUUUGAAAGCAUGACUGAAAUUCCACACCCUAAGAGAUUAAUUUAAACGGUGCAUCCAAAGGAGCGCAACCAAAAAUUGCACACCUUUAAGUGCGCAAUCAUUUCCCAAGGGAUGCCUACUUAUUCUCUUUUGUAUUAUUGUCCAAGCACGCCAUCCAUAAUAAAAAUCUUUAUUCUCUUAUGUAAACUUUUUGGAAGAAAAAUGCCUUCCCAAAUAAAACCAUAAUUGCUUAGAGACUUUUGUCCACCCCACCAUCAUAUCAAUUGAGGUAACCGAGAAGUCUUCUAAGUUUUAUAUAAAAGAAGUAAUUUUCACUAAAGUAGUCACUGCAAUAAAUACUAAAAUAAUCCAACGAAGCAUUCAGUGGAAUGAGCAUAUUAUAAAAUUGUACAUGGGAACCCGACAGUAAUUCAUAUCAAGAAAGUAGAUAGGGGAUAGUAAAUAUAGCUCACCAUGAAACCCCACCAUUAGAGCUCUGUACAGAAGUUCGAAUCCAGGCUUGUCUGCGAAAGGACUUGGAUCUACAUCAUCUCUGGUGACGCUUAAUAAAUAUGAAGUCAGCUCUUUAUGACCAUACCUAACAGCGCUGUGAAGAGGCGCAAAAUUGUGGCGUUGGCAGAUAUUGGGCAAGCUUGGGUUUCUGUUCACUAACAACUUGACUGCUUUUAUAUUGCCAGCCCUUGCAGCGUUGAAAAGGGUAGUGGCGCCAUCAGAAUCCCGCAGAGCCAGUGCCUCACUUGGCAUAAACUCAACGAACUUCUCCACGAAAUCCAUUCUGGCCUCUCCUAACUCAACUGCUAUGUGAAGCAUUGGGGAAUCAUCUGUUCCAAUCGGGGCGGAGAAUGAUUUGGGAUCAUCCGCCAAUAAUUUUGAAGCACUUUCCCAGUCACCAUUGAGCACAGCUUUGUACAGUUCCAAGUAAUAGAAUUCUGCAGUCACAAAACCAAAAGAUGUAUACCUCGCAGAGAAGAUACUCUCAUCCAAAGAGAAACAACAGCAGCCCCUUUUUCCCAGAGUCUUCAAAAGAUACAGGAAAUGGGCCAGGAACCAUUGAAGCAUAAGAGGUGCAAUGAUAGAGUCUUCCAAGUCAACUUUAUUUAGUUGAGUAUUGGGUCAGGAGUAGAUAUAGCGUUGAAACGUUAUGACUGGUGGAUGAUAGUCAUUCAAAAUAAACAAAGAAAAUUAGGGGGUAACUUUGAGCCGUUUGUUUUCGCAUGAUUUCUUCUGACUCUGUUGCUGGGCAUAGACCUCGACUGCCAUACAAGCACAGUCACCAGCGGCUGCCGUGGGAAUUAAUCCUAUGCACCACACAUUGCUAUGAUAGUUUACAAUAACUAAUUAUAUAAAAUCUGUUAAAAUAUUUUAUAUAAUUAACUUUUUGGAAUUUUUUUUUUAUCAAGUAGUAAAAUAAAGAAAAUUUAGGAAAAAAAUAUUUUUGAAAAAUGAUAAGUUUAAAAAAACGAUAAAGUUUUUGUAAAAUAUAGAAAAGGAUACAAGGCUAUUAAAUCAUAAUUAUAUGAUAACCUUUUAGUAUUUCAAUCUUUGAAUUUUUUUUGGAGAUUAUUUCCAUAAAUUCCACAUUCCAAAAACAAUGAUAAUCUUUACACAAUAUUAUUGUCAUAAAAAAUAAAAUUUUUUAAAAAAAUUAGAGAUUACAAAGAAUAUAAGGAUACGAAGAAUGUGAGAAUUGUCAUAUUUUUCGUACCCUCCUCACAUUCUUCAUGGCCCAACCCAUUUGAAUUUUUUUAUUUUUUUAUUUUUUUCAAACAUUAUUUACUUCACUUGCAAGUGUAAUUAGUGUUUUUACACAAUAUUAUUGUCAAAUGAAGUAAACAAAAAAAUCCUUAUUCUCUUAUGUAAACUUUUUGGAAGAAAAAUGCCUUCCCAAAUAAAACCAUAAUUGCUUAGAGACUUUUGUCCACCCCACCAUCAUAUCAAUUGAGGUAACCGAGAAGUCUUCUAAGUUUUAUAUAAAAGAAGUAAUUUUCACUUCCUUUUGCAUGCACUCAAACAAGAACACACACAAUAACGCAACAUGAAAACUCCAAAGAAUCUUAAAACCAAAACACUGAGCCUAAAUAAGAUAAGGAAGUGAGAUAAAAAUGAACAAUCAAGCCAAUUUGUUGAAGUCAAUAGGCACAAUACUAAAAUAAUCCAACAAGCAUUCAGUGGAAUGAGCAUUUGGACAGAAAGGGAACACAUUAAAUUUAAAAGCACUUGAAGCUAGCAAUGGGUGAUAUUGAUAUUUUUGGUCAAUCUCACCCUCAGUGCAGAAUUCCAAAUUGUUUCCAACUUUUCUGUAAUAUUUUUCUUACAUUUUUAUAUUAUCCAAAGACAGAAAAUUAAUUAUUCCUUUCAAGUUUUUUUUUUCUUUUUUAUUUAUAGGACAUAGCUAAACAGGAUUAGCAUAAAAGAAAAUAACUUGACUUAUAAACAAAAGCAAAGGAGAUGCAAUGGCAAACACAAAGCAAUUUAAAAGGGGCAAGCAGUAAAGAAACUAACAAUGAUAUAUUAUGAGUUGCCAUAAGUUGAAGCGACUUCCACUUGGGAAAGCCCAAGGCCUUUUAGCCAAUACUGUCAAAGGGGCAAAAUCCUCAUCAGAAUCAUUAGCAUCAUCGUGGCGGGCGGAAUCGAAAUGGCAUGUGGCAAGGUCAGGAUAACGUUCAACCAGAUACAGUGCUACAUCUGCAUAUUAUAAAAUUGUACAUGGGAACCCGACAGUAAUUCAUAUCAAGAAAAUAGAUAGGGGAUGGUAAAUAUAGCUCACCAUGAAACCCCACCAUUAGUGCUCUGCGCAGAAGUUCGAAUCCAGGCGAAUUUGAGAAAGGAUAUGGAGGUUCAUUAUCUCUGGUGACGCUUAAUAAAUAUAAAGUCAGCUCUUUAUGACCAUACCUAACAGCGCUGUGAAGAGGCGCAAAAUUGUCGCGUUGGCAGAUAUUGGGCAAGCUUGGGUUUUUGUUCACUAACAACUUGACUGCUUUUAUAUUGCCAGCCCUUGCAGCGUUGAAAAGGGCAGUGACGCCAUCAGAAUCCCGCAGAGCCAGUGCCUCACUUGGCAUAAACUCAACCAACUUCUCCACGAAACCCAUUCUGGCCUCUCCUAACUCAACUGCUAUGUGAAGCAUUCGGGAAUCAUCUGUUCCGAUCAGGGCGGAGAAUGAUCGUGGAUCAUCCUUCAAUAAUUUUGAAGCACUUUCCCAGUCACCAUUGUGUUGGGGAUAAAUGUAUGCCCAAGAUCCAAUCUAUCAUGUAAUCAACUUUAGUUUUAAUAAGGUAUUAAUUCUUUAUUUCAUUAUCAUAUCUGUUUAAAAUAGUUUAUAUGAUAAGGUCCUUGAUUAAAAUUUGAAAAUUGUUAUCAUGAUAGAGAUUAUGAUAAUGAGAAGCAAUUCUUUUAAUAAUUUUAAUCUAAACUGUUCUUGAUCAUAGGAUUAUUGUCAACAGGACAUCAAUAAUCCAGAUAGAUCAAUAUAUAUGUGAUGGUCUUUAUUGGAUAAAGAUUGAUAUAUCUCAUUUGUUAAAUUACAUAUAUAGAUGAUGCACAUGUAGAUGUGAUCAUUGAACUGACUCAACUGAGAAUUUCUAAUGGUCAUCUUUACCUUAAAUUGUCAAUAGGAAUUUCUCAAGAAGAAAUAUAAUAGUUUUCUUUGACCUGAGAUUAUCAAAGUAAUUAACAAGUUAUUUAUUAUAUUUUAAUCCCGGACACCUAAUGCCUUAGGGCACUAGUUGAAUGGAUAUUGGAUAUAAUUAAAUACUUGUAGAAUUAAUGAUUAAUCAAGAAGGAAUCCAUCAACUCGUGGUAAUGAGUUUGAGCUCUAUGAUAAAAAUAAGACCUUGGCCAAGGGCAAUUGAAUGAAUGAAGAAAUGAGUUUCUUAAGUUAUUCACUAAAUAAAUAAUGUGCUGACUUAUUAGAGUUUGACAGUAAUACCAUACUCUAGAGUUAGCCCAGAGCUGUGAAUGAUGGAAGGAAAUAUUACAUUAUUCUUCUACCGGUUCUUGAAAGUAAAAGAUAUUACUUCAUACUAUCUGGACGUUAAGGAGUGUUGCUAGAUGCCUACCUUAAUUAGUAAAUUGAUUUGAUUAAUUUACUACCAGCUUAGUAAUGAACCUACGGGGUUACACACAAACGAGUGUUUUAAUCUUUGCAAAGAACUAUUUAUUAUUAUUUGAUAAUUAAAUUAGAGAAUUUAAUUUUAAUCAAAUAAAUAAAUAUGUUCUAUGUGGAAUAUUAUUAUAUUCUUUGCUAGCACCAAGAAUAUAAUUAAUAUAUAGAUAAAAAAAUAAAAUAUUUUUCUUUGGACGUGGAAGUUAGUCCACGAGAAUGUUUGCUAAACAUUUGCAAACAUAUGGGUACAUGCAGCAACUUACAGGAGGGAUGUGGGUUUUGUUUUUAACUUACAAGACUUGGUCAAAGUGUUUUUCAAAUGCUAUUGAAAAUAGCAAAAGAAAAACAAAUGGACCAAUAGAAUCUCUUAGUAGCCCAAAAAAGAAGGAGGACACGAUAGAGAUAGAUUAAGUGAUAAAAUCAAAAAUCAAAUUAGUUGAGUUAUCUUAUCACUUAAAACAGAAGUUGUAUCGGAUAUGCUAUAUAGCAUAUAUACACAAUCUGAAUAAGGAUCGAUCUAUCUUUAUCCUCCUUGUUUUUACGCCAAAGAAAUACAAAGUGUUGUUCUAUUUUUUUUAAGUUCCGCGUAUCAAAGGGUUGAUAGCAAAGAUUAAUUUCGGUGUGGAUACACGUAGAGUCUUCAUACAAUUGGAGAAAAUUUUAUGCUUGAAGAACUGAUAUCCAGGUUAUUAUUUUAAAUUUUUUGAUAGCUGCAGUAUAUAUUUUGAAUGCAAAAUAGAUCAAUUUUCCGCUGUAUGUGUUAUAAAUUUAUUUUAUAACCUUUCAAUUGGUAUCAGAGCCAGGUUUAUUUUUGUGUUUAAAAUUAUACUACCAAUAUAAUUUUCGUGACGUGAAAGCUUUAUCCUCUGUUAUUGCUGUUCAUUAGACUGCAACAGUUGCAGAAGUAAAGAUUGAUGCGACAAUUGCUUAUUGCUUUUCUGUUGAUAUACGUGCCUAAUAGAUAUUUCAAAUUUAUAUUCACAUGCUGAAGUAUUACUUUUUGAAUUAUAUAUAUAUGUGAUCUUUUACUUUGAAUCCCGCAUGCAUAUAUAUUUUUAUAUGCUAAAGUCUUGUCAUGCUUUAUCAUUGUGAUAAGUAAAAGUUGAUUCAAAUAAAUGAUCCUCUGUCUUGCCAUUUAUCUAAUAUAAAAUAUAGUAAUAUAUAGUUGAUAUAUUUUGACUUACGUUUUAUUAAAACUAUUUGGCUUUAAUAUGAAUAUAUAAAUAUACAUGUACCUGGAGAGGUAUAAUUCAUUAUUGAUUUUGUUGAAUUAUUAUAUAUAGUGAUAUAUAUUAAUUCUUUGAUAGAUGAAUUCUAUUCAUGUAUAAUAAUGUGUUUAUGUAUAUUUGCAAGUUGUGUAAAUUUUUUAGCAUGUGAUGAAAUUUUUUUUAUUAAUAACAAGGAACGACCUGAUAACCAGGAGACUUGUAAUUAAUUACAGCAUGUAUGUUUAAAAUAAUUUUAUACUUAAUGUCUGGACUACCCAGAGAAGUAUUAAAUUAAAUUCAUAGAUAUUAAUAAGUUUGACCUGACAACCAGGAACUUAUGUAAUAUAUUAUUCUUUUGAAAUUGUAUGAGAUACAUUUUGUCUUAGAAUAUGUAUGAGAAACGACUUGAUAACCAAGUGGCUUAUUCAUAGUUUUAAGAAAUUAUAUAUGUUUUGACAUAAUUAUAUUUUAAUAUCCAGAAUGUCUUCCUUAUCACUCCGUUCCAUACUUGAAACUUCAAAAUUGGUUGGAGCCAAUUAUGAUGACUGGUACCGCAAUCUGAGAAUUGUUCUCAUGCAUGAAAAACUUAUCAAUAUAAGUGAUAAGCCUGCUAUAACUGCACCAGCUGACACAAAUCAUGCUGAAGCAACCAAGACCUAUCAAAAUACUUGGAAGAAUGUCUUUCUGCAAAAUGCAUAAUGCUAGCAUCCAUGAGUCCUGAACUUCAGAGGCAACAUGAGGAUAUGGAACCACCUGCAAUCAUCGAGCAUCUUAAGAAGAUGUACGGUGGACAAAGUAGGACAGCUAGAUACCAGUUAUCUAAGGCUUUGUUCAGGUCCUCAUUAGGUGUAAAUGCUCAAGUUGGACCCCAUGUUCUGAAGAUGAUUGAUCUUAUUGAACAACUUGAGAAGUUGGGGUGCACGCUUGGAAAGGAACUUUCUCAAGAUUUGAUUUUACAAUCACUUCCUGAUUCUUUGUCACAAUUCAUUGUGAAUUUCAACAUGAACAAAAUGAGUUGUGAUCUGCAUGAGAUGCUUAACUUGUUAAUUGAUUAUGAGAAUCAAGUUUCCUCUGAAAAGAAUAAAGGAAUUGUCAUGGUGGUUGGCAAGACUUCUAAGAAAAAGGGCAAAGGUAAAUAUAUACCAAAAAGGAAACCUCUUGGAACUAAGGGUGGUGUGACCAAACCCAAAUACAAGAAGGUUAAAACUGACCACAGUGAUGCUGAAUGCUUCUUCUGUAAAGAGAAAGGACAUUGGAAGAGAAACUGCAAGAAAUAUCUUGAUUCUUUGAAAAACAAGAAACAAGGUAAGACAUUAAUGAAAAAUGUUUUCAUGAUUUCUUUAACUGUCACAGAUUCUUCAACAUGGGUAUUAGAUACCGGUAGUAGUUUUAACAUCUACAAUAUGUUGUAGGGGCUGAAGAUAACUAGAUGGUUGAAGAAAGGAGAAAUCAACCUUCAAGUAGGGAAUGGAGCAAAUGUUGCCGCCUUAGCUUUAGGAUCAAUUUCUUUAAAUAUGCCCACUGGCAAAGUACUAGUGUUAAAUGAUUGUUAUUAUGUUCCGAACUUUGUUUCAAAUAUAAUUUCAAUUUCUAUGUUGGACAAGCGAGGUUUUCGCAUUAUUUUCAAUAAUAACAUUUGCUCAAUUUAUCAUGAUGAUGAUUUAUAUGUAAAUGGUUAUCUCCAACAUGGCAUUUAUGUCUUACCUGAUGUGAAUUAUAAUUCAGUUAUGCAUGUUUCUUCUAGUUUUAAAAGAAAAAGAGAUAGUCAAUUAAAUAAAACAUAUCUUUGGCACUGUAGGCUUGGUCAUGUUGGUGAGAAAAGAAUUAACAAGUUAUACAAGGAAGGUUACCUUGAUAAUUAUGAUUAUGAAUCAUAUAAAACUUGUGAAUCUUGUCUCAAAGGAAAAAUGACUAAAUCUCCAUUUAUUGGAACUGGAGAAAGAGCCUCUGAAUUAUUGGGACUAGUUCAUACAGAUGUUUGUGGACCCAUGAAAAUUCAAGCCAAAUGAGGAUAUUCUUAUUUUAUAACCUUCACUGAUGACAUGUCAAGAUAUGGUUUUUUGUAUCUCAUGAAACAUAAAUCUGAGUCAUUUGAAAUGUUCAAAAGGUUUCGCAGUGAAGUUGAAAAACAAACAGGUAACAGUAUCAAAGUGCUGAGAUCUGAUAGAGGAGGAGAAUAUCUCAGUGAAAAUUUUAUUGACUAUCUAAGAGAGAAUGGGAUUCUCUCACAGUGGACACCCCCAGGAACACCACAGCACAAUGGUGUAUCAGAAAGGAGAAAUCGAACCUUAUUAGAUAUGGUAAGAUCUAUGAUGAGGUUCACUGAUCUUCCAUUAAAUUUAUGGGGAUAUGCUUUAGAAGCAGCAGCUUAUUUACUAAACAAAAUCCAUACAAAAACAAUAUCUACAACUCCGUAUGAGAUAUGGAAAGGGCGUAAACCAAAUCUCAAACACAUUAAGGUUUGGGGUUGUCCAGCUUACGUUAAGAAAUUACAAACAGAUAAACUUGAGGCAAGGUCAGAUAAGUGUAGGUUCAUUGGGUAUCCCAAAGAAACAAUGGGAUAUUAUUUCUACCACCCUUUAGACCAUAAAGUGUUUGUGGCAAGAGGAGGAACCUUUCUAGAAAGGGAAUUUCUUGCAGAAGGGAGUCAUGGCAAAGAAAUAGAGCUUGAUGAAACUCAAGAAGAAACCAAUGAAACAACAGCAGCUCAAGAACAUGAGAUGGAAUUUGAGCAACCUUUCUUUGAUGUCUUAAAAUCAACACAAAGGUUACAAUCUCCAACAAUUGUGGCUCCAGAACCAGCUAUAGUUCAAGAACAAGUUAAUGAACCUGAACCAGCUGUAGUUCAAGAACAGGUUAAUGAACCAAUCUUAGAACAGAUUCAGCAACCUCUGAAUCCAAUACAUGAGCCUCUAAGAAGGUCUAGUCGAGCACAUCGUGCGCCGGAUAGACUAAACUUGAUGGUUCAAGAUGACUUGUCUAAUGAGGUUCAUCAUAAUGAUGAUGACCCUAAGAACUAUGAAGAGGCUAUGCAAAGCUUGGACCGCAAUAAAUGGCAAGAAGCCAUGGAAUCCGAAAUAGAAUCAAUGAAGAUCAACAAAGUAUGGACUUUGGUUGAAGCUUCAAAGGAUAUAAAACCAAUUGGUUGUAAAUGGGUUUACAAGAAAAAGAUUGGAGCAGAUGGAAAAGUUGAGACUUACAAAGCUCGCCUUGUUGCUAAAGGAUAUCGUCAAAAAGAAGGAAUUGAUUAUGAUGAAACUUUUUCCCCAGUGGCAAUGCUCAAAUCAAUUCGGAUUCUACUUGCCAUAGCAGCAUACUAUGAUUAUGAAAUAUGGCAAAUGGAUGUGAAAACAGCUUUUCUUAAUGGUGAGUUGAAAGAGGAUGUAUACAUGACACAACCUGAAGGAUACACAUCAAUGUCUGAUCAUAAUAAAGUUUGCAAGUUGCGACGAUCCAUUUAUGGAUUAAAACAAGCUUCAAGAAGUUGGAACAUACAUUUUAACAAGACAAUCGAAAAGUUCGAUUUUGUUAAAUGUGAAGAAGAACCUUGUGUGUACAAAAGGUUUAGUGGGAGCACAAUCAUUUUCUUAGUGUUAUAUGUAGAUGACAUAUUGCUUAUAGGAAAUGAUAUACCAGCAAUGCAAGGGACAAAGGUUUGGCUAUCAGAACAGUUCUCCAUGAAAGAUUUGGGAGAAGCAGCCUAUAUUCUAGGAAUAAAGAUUUAUAGAGAUAGAUCUAAAAGGUUGCUUGGACUAUCCCAAUCCAUGUACAUUGAUACCAUCUUAAAGAGGUAUAAUAUGGAAAACUCCAAAAGGGGCUAUUUACCAAUAGGAACUGGAGUUACUCUUAGUAGGGAGGAUUGUCCUAAAACUCCUAAAGAGAGAGAACGCAUGAAUAGGGUACCAUAUGCUAGCGCAGUGGGAGCUAUUAUGUAUACCAUGACUUGUACACGUCCUGAUGUCGCUUAUGCACUAAGUGUAGCUAGUCGAUAUCAGGCAAACCCUGGUGAGGAACAUUGGAAAGUGGUCAAGACCAUUCUUAAAUACUUAAGAAGAACUAAAGACCAAUUCCUUAUCUAUGGAGAAUCUGAAUUAAAAUUAAAGGGUUAUACUGAUGCAAGUUUUGCAUCAGAUAAAGAUGAUAGCAAAUCUAUUUCAGGUUAUGUUUUCACCUUAAAUGGUGGUGCAGUGAGUUGGAAAAGCUCCAAACAAGCUACAGUAGCAGAUUCAACUACUGAAGCCGAAUAUAUAGCAGCAAGUGAGGCAGCUAAGGAAGCAGUUUGGAUGAAGAAGUUCAUAUCUGAACUUGGUGUGGUUCCUUCAAUUGAAGAACCAAUUCCACUGUUAUGUGACAAUAAUGGAGCAAUUGCUCAAGCAAAGGAACCAAGAUCACACCAAAAGUCUAAACAUGUCUUGCGAAUGUAUCACUUGAUUAGAGAAAUCAUUGAACGUGGUGACGUUAAGAUUGAAAAGAUAGAUGGAAAAGAGAAUGCGGCAGACCCAUUUACCAAAGCACUUGGCAUAACGCAGUUUGACAAGCACAAAUGGGAAGUGGGAAUGAAAUACAUGACUGAUUGGCUCUAGUGCAAGUGGAAGAUUGUUGGGGAUAAAUGUAUGCCCAAGAUCCAAUCUAUCAUGUAAUCAACUUUAGUUUUAAUAAGGUAUUAAUUCUUUAUUUCAUUAUCAUAUCUGUUUAAAAUAGUUUAUAUGAUAAGGUCCUUGAUUAAAAUUUGAAAAUUGUUAUCAUGAUAGAGAUUAUGAUAAUGAGAAGCAAUUCUUUUAAUAAUUUUAAUCUAAACUGUUCUUGAUCAUAGGAUUAUUGUCAACAGGACAUCAAUAAUCCAGAUAGAUCAAUAUAUAUGUGAUGGUCUUUAUUGGAUAAAGAUUGAUAUAUCUCAUUUGUUAAAUUACAUAUAUAGAUGAUGCACAUGUAGAUGUGAUCAUUGAACUGACUCAACUGAGAAUUUCUAAUGGUCAUCUUUACCUUAAAUUGUCAAUAGGAAUUUCUCAAGAAGAAAUAUAAUAGUUUUCUUUGACCUGAGAUUAUCAAAGUAAUUAACAAGUUAUUUAUUAUAUUUUAAUCCCGGACACCUAAUGCCUUAGGGCACUAGUUGAAUGGAUAUUGGAUAUAAUUAAAUACUUGUAGAAUUAAUGAUUAAUCAAGAAGGAAUCCAUCAACUCGUGGUAAUGAGUUUGAGCUCUAUGAUAAAAAUAAGACCUUGGCCAAGGGCAAUUGAAUGAAUGAAGAAAUGAGUUUCUUAAGUUAUUCACUAAAUAAAUAAUGUGCUGACUUAUUAGAGUUUGACAGUAAUACCAUACUCUAGAGUUAGCCCAGAACUGUAAAUGAUGGAAGGAAAUAUUACAUUAUUCUUCUACCGGUUCUUGAAAGUAAAAGAUAUUACUUCAUACUAUCUGGACGUUAAGGAGUGUUGCUAGACGCCUACCUUAAUUAGUAAAUUGAUUUGAUUAAUUUACUACCAGCUUAGUACUAAACCUACGAGGUCACACACAAACGAGUGUUUUAAUCUUUGCAAAGAACUAUUUAUUAUUAUUUGAUAAUUAAAUUAGAGAAUUUAAUUUUAAUCAAAUAAAUAAAUAUGUUCUAUGUGGAAUAUUAUUAUAUUCUUUGCUAGCACCAAGAAUAUAAUUAAUAUAUAGAUAAAAAAAUAAAAUAUUUUUCUUUGGACGUGGAAGUUAGUCCACGAGAAUGUUUGCUAAACAUUUGCAAACAUAUGGGUACAUGCAGCAACUUACAGGGGGGAUGUGGGUUUUGUUUUUAACUUACAAGACUUGGUCAAAGUGUUUUUCAAAUGCUAUUGAAAAUAGCAAAAGAAAAACAAAUGGACCAAUAGAAUCUCUUAGUAGCCCAAAAAAGAAGGAGGACACGAUAGAGAUAGAUUAAGUGAUAAAAUCAAAAAUCAAAUUAGUUGAGUUAUCUUAUCACUUAAAACAGAAGUUGUAUCGGAUAUGCUAUAUAGCAUAUAUACACAAUCUGAAUAAGGAUCGAUCUAUCUUUAUCCUCCUUGUUUUUACGCCAAAGAAAUACAAAGUGUUGUUCUAUUUUUUUUAAGUUCCACGUAUCAAAGGGUUGAUAGCAAAGAUUAAUUUCGGUGUGGAUACACGUAGAGUCUUCAUACAAUUGGAGAAAAUUUUAUGCUUGAAGAACUGAUAUCCAGGUUAUUAUUUUAAAUUUUUUGAUAGCUGCAGUAUAUAUUUUGAAUGCAAAAUAGAUCAAUUUUCCACUGUAUGUGUUAUAAAUUUAUUUUAUAACCUUUCACAUUGAGCACAGCUUUGUACAGUUCCAAGUAAUAGAAUUCUGCAGUCACAAAACCAAAAGAUGUAUACGUCAGCCUAGAUUUCCCUAAUAUGUAUAUUUCUUCAACGUUCACAAUGUCCUAAUACUAAAAUUAUUUUUAAAAAAUAAAUCAUUUAAGUUAUGUUUGGUUCUUAGAAAAUUUGACAAAAAAAUAGAGGGGAAAGAAAAGAAAGUAAAUUGAAAAAAUAGAAGGCAAGAAAAAGUGAAAUAAAAUACAUCUAAAAUCAAUAAAUUAAUUAUUUUUAAUUAAUUUAUUUUAAUUAUAUUUUAUUUUCUUAAAUAUUUUUUUUCGAUAUAACCAAAUACGGGAAAAUCAUUUUCCUUGAUAUCUUUUCUUUGCUAAUUAUUUUCUUGGACUUCUUUGUUUACAUCUAAUCAACAUCUUUAUAUAUUUCAAUAAUAGUUUGAACCUCCAAUAAACUACACGAAUUAAAAUUUAAUUUUCUUCCAUUUUUUAUUUUAACAGCAGGUUGUAAAAUACUUCUACUUGUAUACUAAUUAUGCCCAAAAGUUUCAGGAGGACCUCAAACGGAAAUGGGCAUGAACAUGGUUUUCAGCAUCUCACCGGAGCUGCUAGUCCUUCGCAAAGAUGAAGAUGAAACCACUGAAACAUAUUCAUUGGUAUGGUGUGCCGUGUCGAUGGUAGUAGUUCUUUUCAAUGAUGAAGUGGAAGAGACUGGGCCAUAUUCAUCAGUAUCCUGCGCCAUAUUGAUGCUGCUACAGUUAGGAUUGUUUGGGCUGUCAUCGAUUACCGAGAGUGGUAAUGAAGAGGAAGCCAUUACAGUGAACUCCUCAUCAUGCUCAGCAAUGUCCAUGUUACUGUUUGUAGGGCUGUUUGCGCUGUUGUCAUUUAUAAGACGUAGUGAAGAAGAAGAAGCCAUUACAACAAAUUCUUUAUCGUGCUGAUAGUCAUUGCCAUGUUUAGCGAAGUUAUUCUAAUGUGCAACAGAAAACCUAAACAAAAUCUGCAGUUGACAAAGGUCAAAAUUAACUUACCUCGCAGAUGGAUUUGUUAUCUAUGAUAGAAGAUUAUAUUUAACUAUAUCAAGGCAGAGAAGAUACUCUCAUCCAAAGAGAGACAACAGCAGCCCUUUUUCCCAGAGUCUUCAAAUGAUACAGGAAAUGGGCCAGGAACCAUUGAAGCAUAAGAGGUACAAUGAUAGAGUCUUCCAAGUCAACUUUAUUUAGUUGAGUAUUGGGUAAGGAGUAGAUAGCGUUGAAACGUUAUGACUGGUGGAUGAGAGUCAUUCAAAAUAAUAGGCAUACAUGAUUUAUUCAUAUAUAAAUUAAACAAAGAAAAUUAGGGGGUAAUUUUGAGCUGUUUGUUUUCGCAUGAUUUCUUCUGACUGUGUUGCUGGGCAUUACUAGGUCUUUUCUUUUUAAUUUUUCAUGUUUUAUUUUAAGACGAUAUCCAGAAGUAGUAGGUAUGGUAUAUGAAUUAUGGUCUGCGGGCAUGUUGAACACAGACUUGAAUUUCACUUAGAAUGAUAAACAUUCAUAGAGCCAAAUGUAAAUCCAGGCGAAUUUGAGAAAGGAUAUGGAGGUUCAUUAUCUCUGGUGACGCUUAAUAAAUAUAAAGUCAGCUCUUUAUGACCAUACCUAACAGCGCUGUGAAGAGGCGCAAAAUUGUCGCGUUGGCAGAUAUUGGGCAAGCUUGGGUUUUUGUUCACUAACAACUUGACUGCUUUUAUAUUGCCAGCCCUUGCAGCGUUGAAAAGGGCAGUGACGCCAUCAGAAUCCCGCAGAGCCAGUGCCUCACUUGGCAAAAACUCAACCAACUUCUCCACGAAACCCAUUCUGGCCUCUCCUAACUCAACUGCUAUGUGAAGCAUUCGGGAAUCAUCUGUUCUGAUCGGGGCGGAGAAUGAUCGUGGAUCAUCCUUCAAUAAUUUUGAAGCACUUUCCCAGUCACCAUUGAGCACAGCUUUGUACAGUUCCAAGUAAUAGAAUUCUGCAGUCACAAAACCAAAAGAUGUAUACGUCAGCCUAGAUUUCCCUGAUAUGUAUAUUUCUUCAACGUUCACAACAUCCUAAUACUAAAAUUAUUUUUUAAAAAAUAAAUCAUUUAAGUUAUGUUUGGCUUUUAUAAAAUUUGACAAAAAUUACAAGGAAAAGAAAGUAAAUUGAAAAAAUUGAAGGUUAGAAAAAGUGAAAUAAAAUACAUCUAAAAUCAAUAAAUUAAUUAUUUUUAUAUGCUACUCAUUUCACUUAUUUUAAUUAUUUAAUAUAAAAAUUAAAUAAUUUAAAAUUUCAUAAAUUUAUAACUAAUUUUAAUUAUAUUUGAUUUUCUUAAAUAUUUUUUUUCGAUAUAACCAAAUACGGGAAAAUUAUUUUCCUUGAUAUCUUUUCUUGGACUUCUUUGUUUACCUCUAAUCAACAUCUUUAUAUCUUUCAAUAAUAGUUUGAACCUCCAUUUUUUAUUUUAACACUUCUACUUGUAUACUAAUUAUGCCCAAAAUACACGGAAAUGGACAUGAACAUGGCUUUCAGCAUCUUACCGGAGCUGCUACAGUUAUUGGUAAGGUGUGCCGUGUCGAUGGUAGUAGUUCUUUUCAAUGAUGAAGUGGAAGAGGAAGCAACAGUUAGGAUUGUUUGGGCUGUCAUCGAUUACAACAAAUUCCUUAUCGUUCUUAUAGUCAUUGCCAUGUUUAGCAAAGUUAUUCUAAUGUGUAACAGAAAACCUAAACAAAAUCUGCAGUUGACAAAGGUCAAAAUUAACUUACCUCGCAGAUGGAAGAUUAUAUUUAACUAUAUCGAGGCAGAGAAGAGAGUCUCAUCCAAAAAUAAAAACUUUGCUCUCAAAGUAUUCUAAGAUGAUCAACAAGCCCUAAGAAUCAUGUAGGAAAAAUUUUAAAAAUUUUCUCUAACUAUAAACCAAAAAUUCUAACACCCUAAAUUUCCAAGCAAAAUAAACGAAUUGUGUGUAACCAAAAUCAAUCUUGUUGUGCUACGCUCGGGUUUUCGGGGGUCAAGCUCCUCGUUGAGGUCGUAGGGGUCGGGGGGCAACACCCUCUAGAAUUUUUUUUUCAUUAUAUUUAUUAUUUUUUAUUUAUCUAUCCAACUGGAACAAUAGAAACCCUAAACAAUGUUAAUGAGAGUUGGGUAACACUACAUUUUAUAUGGAGCAACACUACACAACGAAACCAUAAAGAUCAAGGAAAAUCCAUGAAAAAUAAACAAGAAAUGAGUAUGAGUGUAAUGCGUACCUGGAAUGUGACAAACCCACAAUGAAACCCUAAAAUCGCCUUCAAUGGAAGUUAGGAUGAUGAACAAGGAAAGAGGAAACAAGGGAAAAAGGAGAUGAAAAUUGUAAUAUCUGAUAGAAAUAAAGGUAUAUAAAAUAUCGUUUUUUCACCAACAAAAAUUAUCAAAACUUUUCAACACUAUCUACUCUACAGAAUGUUUGUUAAAGUCUUCCUUGGAGCAAAAUGACCUCCACAAGCUCCCUCAUGGCACAUUCACAAUAUGUUUUGUUGUUCAUCCUCUGGAACACAUCUCCGAAUAAUUUGAUUUGGGCAAAACUUAUACAAAUAUGGAUCAUCCCAAGCAUAGUGUUUUGCUCACGAAAGAAAAUACUUUUUCAUCUCCAUGUUCCAUUAUGAGAGAAGCUCUCUAAUUGCCAAGUAGCUGAGUAUAUUUGCGAACCAAGGCAACUCUCCACUACACAAAGUGCAUCAUCAAGAAACUCAUCAUUCAUCUUUUCUUUCUCGAAAUGUGACUCUACUUUAACUCAGGAGAGAUGAUUAGUAACCAGAUUCUCUUCCCUUGCUUAUCCUUGAUUUGAAUGUUAAAUUCUUAAAGAAGAAGGAUCCUCUCUUUGACCUAGUACGACUCCCACUACAUAGUCAAUCGCAUUACACAUCAACUCAAAUGGAAGAGACCAAUUGGGAGGUCUCACAAUUGGUGUAGUAGUGAGGAGUGACUUUAGCCUCUCAAAAGCUUCUUGGCAUGCUUUAGUCCAUAUGAAUUCUGCAUCCUUAAGUAAUAAAGCACAAAGAGGUUGAGAGACUUUUUAGAAGUCGUGUAUGAACCUUCUAUAAAAAUAUGCAUGCCCCAAAAAUUGUCUCACCCCUUUAACAGUAUUGGGCGAAGGUAGCUUUGAGAUGAGCUCAAUUUUUGUUGAAUCUACCUGAAUGCCUUCUCUAGAGAUGAUAUGACCAAGUACUACCCCUGAGGUUGCCAUGAAGUGACAUUUAUCCCAAUUUAGGACCAAGUCCUUCUCAAUGCACCUUUUCAAAACUUUUUUCAAAUUUAAGAGACAAUCAUCAAAGGUCUUCCCAUAAACUGUUAGAUCAUCCAUGAAAGCUUCCAUGAUUCUCUCUACCAUGUCAUUGAAGAUAUUGAGCAUACACCUUUGAAAUGUGGUCGGUGCAUUACAAAGACCAAAAGGCAUGCACUUAUAAGCAUAGGUGUCAAAUGGGCAGGUGAAUGUGGUUUUCUCCUGAUCCUCCAAUGCAAUGGAAAUUUGAAAGUAGCCCGAAUAGCCAUCCAAGAAGCAAUAAUAGUCAUGACCAACUACCUUCUCCAAAACUUGAUCUAAGAAAGGUAAUGGGAAAUGAUAUUUCUUGGUGGCUGCAUUCAACUUUUUAAAAUCAAUGCAUACUUGCCAACCUGUAGUCAACCUUGUAGGAAUGAGCUCUCCUUCAUCAUUCUUCACCACAGUUAUCCCGCUUUUCUUAGGUACUACUUGAGUAGGGCUCACUAGACUACUGUCAGAGAUAGGAUAUAUAAUACCUGCAUCUAAAAGCUUCAAUACCUCAUUUCUGACUACAUCUUGCAUAAGGGGAUUUAGCCUUCUUUGUGGUUACCCUAUUGGUUUUGCGUUCUCUUCCAAAUAAAUAUGAUACGUGCAAAUCAAGGGAUUUGUCCCUUUCAAAUCUAAAAUAGACCAACCAAUCACUCUUUCAUUCUCUUUAAGCACUUUUAAAAAUUUGAUUUCUUGCUCUUCAGUUAAUGUAGUUGAAAUGACCAAAGGUUUUUCUUCAUUUUCCUCUAAAUAAACAUACUUUAAACCAUGUGGUAGGGGCUUUAACUCUGCUUUGCUGAUCUCAACCUCCAUUUUUUUUUUCUUCAUCAUUUUCAACAUUGUUCAAAGACUGAAUGGUAAAUUUUUCUUUCCACUUUGUAGCAACUUCAACACUCUUUCCUUAAUGAUUGUAGAGAAAAAUUCAUCUAUAUUUUCUUCCAUUUAAUUUCUUAUGUUUUCUUGCACCAAGACCUCUAUAAGGCAUGCUUCCUCAUCCUCCACAUCAUCAUGGUCCAUCAGUUGCUUGCAUAAAUUGAAGAAAUUCAUUUCCACUGUCAUGUUCGCAAAAAAUAACUGCAUCAAUCCAUUCUGAUAGUUAAUGAGAGCAUUGGUUGUAGCAAGGAAGGGUCUCCCAAGAAUAAUUGGAACAAAAUUCACGCAUUUUUUCAACGAUUCUAUAUCUAGCACCGCAAAGUCCAUUGGGCAGUAGAACUUUUCAACUUGCACUAAGACAUCUUCAACUACUCUUUUAGGUACUUUAAUUGAACGGUCUGCUAAAGAGAGUGUAAUGGUAGUAGCCUUAAGCUCUCCCAAUCCCAAUUUCUUAUAGAUUGAAUAUGGAAUCAAAUUUAUACUAGCUCCCAAAUCUAACAAAGCCCUUUCCACAAAUGAGUCUCCAAUCUGGAUUAAGAUGGUAGAACAACCUGGAUCUUUGUACUUCACCAUUGUCUUAUUCUCGAUGAUGUCAUUGACUUGCUCGGUGAGGAAUGCUUUCUUGCUUAAUUUAAUCAUUUUCUUCAUAGUGCAUAAGUCCUUAAGGAACUUUGCAUAAGCAAGCACUUGCUUGAUCAUAUCAAGGAGUGGAAUGAUGAACUUCACUUGCUUCAAAACUUUCAAAACCUCAAAAGUCUUAUCCCCCACUUUAUGUCUUUGCAUUGAUGAAGGGAAAGACAGAUGAUUGAAAAUACUCUUUUUAUCUUUGCUCACAAUGACUUUCUUAUAUUUUUCAUACUCUUUCUCAUUUCUAGCAUUUUUCUCCACGAUUGGUUCAUUUCUAAUAAGAAUAUCUUCACUUAUUGCUAACUUGGGCCUUUCAUAUUCUUUCCCAUUUCUGAGUGUGAUAACUGCAUUGCAAUCUUCCUUUUGCACUUCGGAAACUUCAUUUACUCAUCUCGAAUUUUUCUAUGGUUGAGUUGUGAACUUUCUUUUCUCUUGAGAUAAGCUUCUAGCAAGUUGGUUCAAAGUGGUUCGAAUAUUUGCUAGUUCUUAAGAUGUUUGAGCAUUUAUCCUAUUUUGAUCCUCAUUACGCUUGUUUUGCUUCUAUAUAAACUCUCUUAGCAUAUCUUCCAGGCUUGAGUUAAAUGAUGAGAUUUGAGGUUACUGUUGAAAAUUUUGAGAUGGCAUACCUUGUGGUUGAAAACCUUGCUACCCAUUAGUCUGAUUACCUUGAAAUCAGUUUCCUUGCUAUUGAAGUUGGCCAUUGUUACCUCAUCUCCAUGAUAGAUUUGGAUGAUUCCUCCAACCCGGAUUAUAAGUGUUAGAAUAUGGAGAAUUGCUAGAAUAUUGCUUGUAUGUCCUUAAGGCAUUGGCUUGCUCUGAAAACAUGUUUUGCACUGCAAGUAGAGUAGGACAAGAUUACACACCAUGUUCCAUAGACUUACAUAUCUAGAAUGGUUGAGUUAUUCCCUCAUUAACUAUUUGUACCUCUUGACCUCCCUUAGCUUCCAAAUCAUCCAACCUUCUCAUAAUGGUUACAAACUUUGCUUGGACAUCUAAACUCUCUGUAAGGUAUACACUCCACUAGCUCUUGCCCUAUUCAUUGUUCUAUCUCUAGGUGUUUCCUUGAUGAUUGGUUCUUCCCAACUUCUAGAUACCUCAGCAACAUAAUCAAGGAAUUGAAAUGCUUCAUCGAGGUUUUUAUUCAUGAAAUCUCAUCCACACAUAGUCUCGAGAAGUUGUUUUUCCUUCAUAGAAAUAUGAUACUAGCAUCCAAUUGUCAAAUCUGUGAUGGGGGCAUGUUGCAACCAUCUCCCUAAAUUUUUCCCAGGAUGCAAAAAAUUUCUCAUCUUUUAUAGCCUUGAAAUUCGAGAUCUCCUUUUUCAAUGCACUAGUCCUAUGUGUUGGAAAGAACUUUUUAAAAACACUAAUUGUCAAUCACCCCAAUUUUUUAUACUACAGGGUCUAAGACUAUUUAACCAAGUCUUAGCUUUAUCCUUCAAUGACAAGGGGAAUAGCUUCAUGCGGAAGGUCUUUAAAGAAGUGUUGGCUUCUCGAAAAAUUGAAGCGAUGUCCUCAAAUUCCUUGAUGUGAGAGUGUGGCUUUUCAUUUUUUGUCUCCCUAACAAUGGGUAGUUGAGAUACCACUUGAGGCCGAAUGGUAACAUGAUCGUGAUUUGGAGGUAGCAUAAAACACGAUGGUGUGCUCAACCUAGGAGGAUUUAGAAACUCUCUCAUGGUUUUUUGGUCCUGCAUAGGUGGUCAUGGCCUGUUGUUACUACUGUUGGAUUCUUCAGUGUCCUCCAUAUUUGGUUGAGAUUCCUUAGUUGUUCUUUGAAGUCUACUUGAAAGAUCUCUUUCCCAACCAAGCAUAAAAUAGAAGAAAAAUAUAUAUAGAGAAAAAAAAAAGAACUAAAACAAAGUGAUGCACUAUAUCCUAGUUAUGACGAUUGCUAAUCCCCACCAACGACGACAGUUUCUUGACUAAAAUUCUUUAUUGUACUAAAAUACUUAGCAUUUUUUACGUAGCAACUCCAGUUAAGAAAAACUAGAGAAAUAGUCACUACGACUUUUGUAGUACUUCGGGCAUCGUCCUCAAGGACUGGCAUAUGGAAAGAGUCAAUACUAGAAUAAAUGAAUUGCUUUCGUUUAAAUCCUAAAGUGAAAAAUAAUAUGAGAAUAAUGUGAAACUAAGUAAAAGAAAUUAAAUUAAUAAAAAAAUGGAUAUUGAUAUUAAAUUCGAUUGAUUCACGUUUAGGGCUUUCCACAAUCCAACCUAGGUUAUAGAAAUUAGAGAAAACAAGGGUCUUUAAAGUAAUAUGAUCUUAGGGUUUUGGGAUCCUUGGCCGUUCACAAUCAAAUUGAGUUUUAUAACUUGAAAUUGCAUUUGAAACCUAUUUUUUCCUUUUUUAAAACAAAUUCCUAAAGCCAUUAAAUGAAUGAGAUUGAUUACCAGUUUAAGAUUUGGCUUUUUAACCCUUCCUACUCCUUAUAGCUUUGUUUUGGGGCAAAUAAUGAUAGGGAAUAUGAGGAUAACUAAUGAUAAAAAAAUUACCAAGAAUCAUUAGUAUCGGGUAAUAACCUACCAUAUCAUUCCCUAAACUAACUCACAAGGAUAGGACAAAAAAAAUGAUAAAUUGUCACCCAACCAAUAAUUAAUCUAAUUGUUAUAAUAAUUUAUCCAUUGUCCUUUUAGGUUUCCUAGCCCUUAGGUUUUCAUGCUUUAAGCCCCAAGUUGGCUCUUAACCUCUCAUGGGGGUGAUGUCACAUUCACAAUCCAUAAUAUGGUAAAAAUCCAUAAUUUGAAUCAAAAGAACCUAAAACAACAUAUUUAAUAAAGAAGAGAAAGAAAACAAACCAAAGUUCUCAUCUUCUUCUACCUUCAAUGUCAAACUCUUCGAAAAAAAAAAUCCAAGAUCCCUAAAACCUAGAACUAAGAAAGUUUAUAUAAUAUCAUCAAUUACCUAACAUGUGCCACACUCUCAUUGGCCCCUUAUUACAAAAAUAAUUACCUAAAAAUGAUUUAAAAAAAUAAUAAAAUUGUGAUUUCUAGUCAUAUGAGGUCCAUUUAGGGCGGAUGGAAUGCCCUAGAUGCAAUUACUGAGGUAAAGGAGGUGAAACAUUAAAGUGGCAAUAGGUGAAUUUGAAAUUGGUGUCAUUUUGAUGUGGAUUUCGAAUUCAUAAGUUGAAUUUCGAAAUCAUUUCGAAAUGACCCUUAAACUUUGUGCAGUUGUUUUCAAAUGGCCAUAACUUCUUCAUUUCAGCUCUGAUUUUCACACUAUUUGAAGCAUUGGACUCAUAACAUCCCAAGAAACGAUAUAUUGUAUAUAUAAAAUGGAGUCCGAGAAGUGCUCCAAAUUUUUCCUCAAAGUUAAAGUAUAUAUUACCAUCAAAUUUUUGAGUUCUAAAUUUCCAUGUAGCUGAAUCUUGCUUCAUGCCUCAUUUCCUAUGUUUUCUUGCCUUCUUUCUUACUCCAUAAUGGUCAUUUCUCAUCUUCCAAACUCAUAAUAUCCUUGUCUUGCCUUUCCUCGUGGUCCAUGAGUUCUGACUCACUUAUUUUCUCAUUUAACCCUUUCUUGAUCUUUCAAAAUUUAAAGUGAUUCAACUUGUACCCUUUUCUUCCCUUGAACCUAAGAUAAGUCUCCAAAGUACAAAUUAAACUCAUGGCUAGGGCCUUAGCAUUGAUUUAGGUCAAGUUGGGUGAUUUGAAUGUUCUUUGGUGAAUAAAUCAUAUUGAAUAUGUACCAUUAGAGCACAUAUUUUGGCUCCAAUCAAGCUUACCCGCCAAACAUUGAGUGAUAAAAUGGAGUGGGUUGUCUAAAGAUUCAUUUGAGGCUCUAUAGUAUAGUCAUGAGAGCACACAAAUUAGAUAAUAUGUAGUUGGUUGCUCUCUUCCCCAUGUCACUUAGUUGAGCAGCAUAGAGGUGGUUGGCAUUAAUUAAGCCUUUGAGACUCUAUACUUAGGAGGAUGUGGCCUAUGAGUUUCUGACACAGUUUGCCUUUAGUGUCGAUAUUGAUUUUUUUUUUUUUACUAAACAAGAUGUCGAGAGUGUUACUUAACCAUCCCUAUGGCAAAAGCAAAAAUUGUUGCCUUUAGUGCUAAUAUUAAUGUUUCUAAGCGAGAGUUAGAGGCUACUAAGUAGAGGCCAAAUGAGUUUGUUUCUUCAUUUAUUAGUCAUUAGAGGGCUAAGGUGGUUGGUAUGAUAGAUUGACUUAAGGAGUAAGAUCAUAUUGACGUGCUUCUUUGGAACCUUCAACCGAGGUUUGCCAGACAUCUUAUAGGUAUUCCAUUUCAAGACUUCUGAAGUUUGGUUCAAGUCGUUUUCAGUGUUUAGGAGGGUAUUUCUAAAGGGUUAUAGACAAACACUAUUCCUUCCUUAGACAAUAAAGAAAAGAAGCCUAUAGGAUCAUUAGGGAGGCUUGGAGAGGUUAGCACUAUCAGUUAUCAUCAUCGAGGUCAACUUAUCAGUCAUACCAAAGGUCUCCUAUAAUCAAAGCCUACUUUCCUCAUCUAUUGUGUCAAUAUUAGUCCACUUAUAUUCAACAACCUUUCAUUGCUUGGACUAGUAUGCAACCAUGACUGUCGUAUCCCAGAGCCACUGGUUCUCAUUCAUUACUCAUAUUCCCACUCAUAUUUUUUAAAACAUGUGAUCUUUAUCAUAAAGGGGCAUAUUUGUAGACCCUUCAUUCUAUCUCCUUAAUACAUAAGUGUUCUUUCAAUACUCCCCAAUGGUUCCCUAAUGGCUCUUUACUGCUCAUAUAGCCAACAUUUUUUAGUCACCUUGGAGACUUUGGUUGAGGAAUUUAUUUGACCCCUCGUUAUGACCCUUAGCAGAAUCGAGUUAGAUUUAGGUUUUUCUUUUUUCUUUUUAGGAUAGCUCCUUUAAGUACAUCUCUAGGAUAGAAUACUUAGGCAUCAUUUUUCAAUCACCUUGGCCCAUUUAGGCACAUUUGACCCAUUUAGGAUCACCCUAACCCAUUUAGAUCCAUUUGGCCUAUUUAGUUCACCUUGACUGAUUUAGACACAUUUGACCCAUUUAGGUACAUCCAACUCAUUUAGGUCACCCUGGCUCAUUUAGACACAUAUAGGCCCAUUUAGGCACAUCCGACCCAUUUAGGAUCACCCUGGCCUAUUUAGACACAUCCAACCUAUUUAGGAUGCCCUUGUCCCAUUUAGACACAUUUGGCCCAUUUAGGAUUACCUAGGCCCAUUUAGGCACAUUCGACCCAUUUAAGUCAUCUUAGCCCAUUUAGACCACUUAGGCCCGUUUAGGCACAUUAGGCACAUAGGACCUAUUUAGGAUCACCCUAACCUACUUAGUCACACCUUGACCCAUUUAGGUCACUUAGCCCAUGAUUACUACUCAAAAAGUGCUAUUUGAUAGCCUAUAAUAAAUCCUUUUAAACACUUUUGAGUAGUAGUUUAGGCCUUUUAACUCAAUUGGCAUGUUAAGGACCCUUGAAAGGGAUUUUAAUCACUUUGUGUAAGUUUUGGUGUUUUUGUUAGUAAUUUAAUCACCAAAGCAAGUCAAGACUAAGGAGAGCUAUGAGGAAUCUUGGGCAAAGCUUAGAAGUCAUUUUCCAAGAGUAAAUCCGGAUUGCAAGGAGAAAAAGUAAAGAGAAUCUGCCAUGAAGCCUAUUCUUGAUGACAGUCGUAGCAGCCACUUUUGGAGCAUUUUAUGAAGCUCAAAUGAUGCAUGCUAUAUACCAUUUCAAAGCUCAGGAAGUCAACAAUCCAAUUCUUCAAACGGUGUGCAAUUUCGAGUUGAAACGAAGAAGUUGCAGCCGUUACAAGCCAAUCACUCCGAGCUGAAGGAAGCAUUUUGCAAAGUGCUGCGAAAUCACCCAUUUGUUGCAAAGUGAUUUCGCAGCCUUUUUGAACAGUGUGAUGUUUCUCCUUCUGACGAUGCCCGACAUAUACCGUGAGAGGGAAGCUAGGAACCUCAAGGUGGGAGCCAACUUCGCAGCCCUGCGAGUUUAACUUGUUGAUGCGAAAAUAUUUCGCAGCCCUCUUGAGUGUCUGCGAAAUCUCGCAGACACCAUUUUUCUCUUGCGAAAUGGUUCCUGAAGCCUCCUGAUAUUUGCUACCGACAUUGGGAGAUAUUUUCCAUUAGAUUUUUGUUGUCUAAAUCCCAAAGUACUCCUUGUAAACCACCAAUUACAUGAUUCCUUAGCUUUUAAGUUAGUAAAAAGACUAAAUAUCUAUGUAAUAAUUAGUUUUAUAUUAUGUUCAUAUAUAUACCUCUCGGGAGCCUGUUCUCAGGGAGGAGUUCCUUCUAUAAAAGUUUGGGUAAGCAAGUAAAGUUUAUUUCUUUCUAUUGCUUUACCUUCUCACUUUGUAUUUUCAUUUUCUUACUAAGUUAUGAAUUCUCUGAGGAGUUUUUCCCAGAGAAUGAGUAACUAAACCUCUAAUUCCUUGGAGCUAAGGUUGCCAGGGAAGGUUCCAAGUGCAAGAAUGCAAGGCUUUGUGGUUUUAGCUAUUAAUGAAGAGGAAGUGAAAUCCUUUAAUGAUUUCUAUGUUUUUAGUUAACUUAAAACACCUUAGAGUCACCUGGGCCAACACUUGGUAAGGCAUGUGAUUUCCAACCAAGGAAAUGCACUAGUUUACCCCUUACGAGCCUCUGGGAGGUGACUUUAGGGUAGGAUUUUCUAGAAUAGCCAACACUUGGUAAGCUUUUGGACUCCUAAGAGACAUCCAUUAGUUAUCUCUUGCGAGCUUUUGACGGGUAAUCCAAGGUUAAAGAUCACCUUGAAUGGUUGAGGCUUAGUGAGAGGCUUAAACCAUUGCAAGUUGCAUCAGUGAGAGAAUUAAAGUGAAAUCUAAUUGAAGGAGUCUCUGUACAACACCGGUUAGAGAAUUGACUAUAUGUUGAAUCUCUAACGCGAGGAAAUGAACCAUCUGACCAGAGCCGUGUCUUUUGCAUGAGGAACCACCCCAGUGAACCUAACUCUCCAGGGAAUGCUUUUCUUCCUAAAUUAUUCCAAACUUCUGUUGUGUUAGUUAGUUUAAGUCUAAACCUUUACCAAUCAAAGCUUGUGUUUUACUUGUUAAGCUAACCAUGAAAUGAAACAAAACCAAUUCACUUGGAAUUGGUAUCAUUGAUAGCUUGCUAAUCCUUCCCAGUGAACGAUCCUAGAGCCGCUAUACUAUAGUAGCUUUUUCUUUGCUACCCUAUUAUAUGGUGUUAUAGGUUAUAAAUUUUGUUGAUUACUCCCUCAAUCAAGGAGCACCAGCUGGACACGAAUCAGCUGAGACACCAAUUAGGCACGAAUCAAAUGGCGCCGUUGCCGGGGAUCGAACCCCGAAUCAGAUGGUGCCAUUGCCACUUCCGCUGCUAGGGACGAAUCAAAUGGUGCCGUUGCCGGGGAAUGAGUGUCAAGUUUAUAUUGAUACCAUUUUUGAGCACUUGUGAUUUUCAUCACAAGUUGGUAAAGUUUCUUUCACUUUACUAAUUCUCAUUCUUUCUUUAUUUAUUCAUAAUCUAAGUUUAUCUUUUAAAAUUUAGCCUAGUUUAAUUUUGUUGUUGUAGCCCUGUUUUUCUUGUUGUCCUCUGUUUUCAUUUUUUGUUGCAGAUUGAUACUAGUUGUGUAUGCCAAAGUGGAUACGAGACAUUGGAGGCAGGCUUGUUAAGUGUGAUACACCUCAGAGAAGAGAAUUCGAAGUGAUCUUGAAUAUCAUGGAAGCUACACCUGAAGAUCAACAUAGUCACCAAGGUCGUCAAGAUAAUCUUAAUGAAUUCAGAUCAAUGAGGGAUCGUAUGCAUCCACCUCGUAUGAGUGCACCAUCAUGUAUAGUGCCCCCUACAGAGCAGCUAGUGAUCAGACCGUAUCUUGUUCCACUUCUACCAACUUUCCAUGGAAUGGAAAGUGAGAAUCCGUAUGCACACAUCAAGGAAUUUGAAGAUGUUUGUAAUACAUUCCAAGAGGGAGGAGCUUUAAUUGAUUUGAUGAGGCUUAAGUUAUUUCCUUUUACUUUAAAGGAUAAGGCCAAAAUUUGGCUUAAUUCUUUAAGGCCAAGGAGUAUCCGCUCUUGGAUUGAUUUACAAGCUGAAUUCCUUAAGAAAUUUUUUCCCACUCAUAGAACAAAUGACUUGAAAAGGCAAAUUUCAAACUUCUCAGCUAAAGAGAAUGAGAAAUUCUAUGAGUGUUGGGAAAGAUACAUGGAAGCUAUAAAUGCUUGUCCUCACCAUGGCUUUGAUACUUGGCUAUUGGUGAGCUAUUUUUAUGAUGGUAUGUCCUCCUCAAUGAAGCAACUCCUCGAGACAAUGUGUGGAGGAGAUUUCAUGAGCAAAAAUCCAGAGGAAGCUAUGGAUUUCUUGAGCUAUGUAGCUGAUGUUUCAAGGGGAUGGGAUGAACCAACCAAAGGAGAAGUGGGAAAGAUGAAGUCUCAGUUGAAUGCUUACAAUGCAAAGGCUGGGAUGUAUACCUUGAAAGAAGAUGAUGAUGUGAAAGCAAAGUUGGCAGCUAUGACAAGAAGAUUGGAGGAGCUGGAGCUGAAAAGAAUACAUGAAGUGCAAGCUGUUGCUGAAGCACCAGUGCAAGUGAAGUUGUGUCCCAAUUGUCAAUCAUAUGAACAUUUGGUGGAGGAAUGCCCUGCAAUUUCAGCUGAAAGGGAAAUGUAUAGAGAUCAAGCAAAUGUUGUUAGACAAUUCAGGCCUAAUAACAAUGCGCCUUAUGGAAAUACCUACAACUCAAGUUGGAGGAAUCAUCCAAAUUUCUCAUGGAAGGCCAGAGCAACUCAGUACCAACAGCCGGAUCCACCAUCUCAACAAUCUUCAAGUAUUGAACAAGCAAUAGCCAAUCUCACUAAGGUAGUGGGAGAUUUUAUUGGAAAGCAAGAAGCCACCAAUGCUCGAGUCGAUCAAAGAAUUGAUAGAGUGGAGAGUAUGUUGAAUAAAAGGAUGGAUGGAAUGCAAAAUGAUAUGAACCAAAAGUUUGAUAACAUCCAGUAUUCAAUUUCAAGGCUCACAAAUUUGAAUACACUGCAAGAAAAGGGAAGAUUUCCUUCUCAACCUCACCAAAACCCCAAAGGUGUCCAUGAAGUGGAAAGCCAAGAGGGAGAAUCAUCACAAAUGAAAGAAGUUAAAGCCUUGAUCACUCUAAGGAGUGGUAAAAAAAUUGAGCAGCCAACACCCAAGCCACAUGUUGAGAAAGAAGAAGAGAUAAAGAAAGGGAAGGAAAUGGAAGAUAAAGAGAGUGAGAUCAAUGAAGAAAAGAAGGACUCUGAUUCAACAAGGAAAGUAAUUCCAGAGAAGGAGCUUCUGAAGGAAGAAAUGCUGAAGAAAUCAACUUCUCCACCUUUUCCUCAAGCAUUACAUGGGAAAAAGGGGAUUAGAAAUGCAGCUGAAAUCCUUGAAGUAUUGAGACAAGUGAAAGUCAAUAUUCCACUGCUGGAUAUGAUUAAACAAGUUCCAACGUAUGCAAAAUUCCUAAAGGACUUGUGUACUAUCAAGAAAGGGUUAACUGUAAACAAGAAAGCCUUCUUGACUGAGCAAGUAAGUGCAAUCUUACAGUGUAAGUCUCCUUUGAAGUACAAAGACCCUGGAAGUCCUACCAUUUCAGUCAUGAUUGGAGGAAAGGUAGUGGAAAAAGCCUUGCUAGAUUUGGGAGCAAGUGUGAAUUUGCUUCCAUAUUCCGUCUACAAGCAAUUGGGACUUGGAGAGUUGAAGCCAACAACAAUCACUCUAUCUCUGGCAGAUAGAUCAGUGAAAAUUCCAAGAGGGGUAAUUGAGGAUGUAUUGGUUCAAGUAGAUAAUUUCUACUAUCCAGUAGAUUUUAUUGUUCUUGAUACAGAUCCUACUAUAAAGGAAGCUAAUUUAGUUCCUAUCAUCCUUGGAAGGCCAUUUCUUGCAACUUCAAAUGCAAUCAUCAACUGCAGGAAUGGGCUUAUGCAACUCGCUUUUGGUAACAUGACACUGGAUCUCAAUAUUUUCUAUAUGUCUAAAAAGCAAAUCACUCCGAAAGAAGAAGAAGGACCAGAAGAGUUAUGUAUUAUUGACACUCUGGUGGAGGAGCACUGUAAUCAAAAUAUGCAAGACAAGUUGAAUAAAAGUCUUGUGAAUUUUGAGGAAGGUUUGUCUGAAUCUCCUAUUGGGCUUGCUACUCUACAAAGUUGGAGAAAGAUAGAAGAAAUUCUACCUUUGUUCAAUAAAGAAGAGGAGGCAGCUGUUGAAAAAGAAAUUCCAAAACUCAAUCUGAAGCCUUUACCUGAGGAGCUGAAAUAUAUAUAUCUUGAGGAAAAUAAUCAAUGUCCUGUUGUGAUAUCUUCAUCUCUGACCAGUCAUCAAGAGAAAUGUUUAAUGGAAGUUCUCAAGAAGUGUAAGAAGGCAAUAGGAUGGCAAAUAUCUGACUUGAAAGGCAUUAGUCCUUUAGUUUGUACUCAUCAUAUAUAUAUGGAGGAGGAAGCAAAGCCAAUUCGUCAAUUUCAAAGAAGGUUGAAUCCUCAUCUACAAGAGGUGGUGCGAGCUGAGGUGCUGAAGCUACUUCAAGCAGGAAUCAUUUACCCUAUAUCUGAUAGCCCUUGGGUGAGUCCUACUCAAGUGGUACCAAAGAAGUCAGGGAUCACAGUGGUUCAAAAUGAAAAAGGGGAAGAAGUUACUACACGCCUCACUUCAGGUUGGAGGGUGUGUAUUGAUUAUAGAAAGCUGAAUGUUGUAACCAGGAAAGAUCAUUUUCCAUUGCCAUUUAUUGAUCAAGUGCUGGAGAGAGUCUCUGGACAUCCAUUUUAUUUUUUUUUUGGAUGGGUAUUCAGGGUAUUUUCAUAUUGAAAUUGAUUUGGCAGAUCAGGAAAAGACCACUUUUACAUGUCCAUUUGGAACAUAUGCUUAUAGGAGAAUGCCUUUUGGUUUAUGCAAUGCACCUGCUACAUUUCAAAGAUGUAUGUUGAGUAUUUUCAGUGAUAUGGUGGAGCGAAUUAUGGAGGUUUUCAUGGAUGACAUCACCGUAUAUGGAGGUACAUUUGAGGAAUGCUUGGUUAAUUUGGUAGCAGUUCUUCACAGAUGCAUUGAAAAAGAUCUGGUGCUCAACUGGGAGAAAUGCCAUUUUAUGGUACAUCAAGGAAUUGUCCUUGGCCAUAUCAUCUCUGAAAAAGGCAUUGAAGUUGAUAAAGCAAAGGUGGAGCUUAUUGUCAAAUUACCAUCCCCAACAACUGUAAAAGGAGUAAGGCAGUUCCUUGGCCAUGCAGGGUUCUAUAGGAGGUUUAUAAAAAGUUUUUCAAGUCUUUCAAAACCUCUUUGUGAGCUGUUAGCUAAGGAUGCUAAGUUUAUAUGGGAUGAAAGGUGUCAAAAUAGCUUUGAUCAACUGAAGAAAUUUUUAACAACAACUCCAAUACUAAGAGCCCCUAACUGGCAAUUACCUUUUGAACUGAUGUGUGAUGCCAGUGACUUUGCUAUAGGAGCUGUGCUUGGCCAAAGAGAAUAUGGGAAGCCCUAUGUGAUUUACUAUGCAAGUAAAACACUGAAUGAAGCUCAAAGGAACUACACAACUACAGAGAAAGAAUUGUUAGCUGUGGUAUUUGCUUUGGACAAAUUUCGUGCUUAUUUAGUGGGGUCUUUCAUCAUUGUCUUUACUGACCAUUCAGCCUUGAAGUAUUUAUUGACAAAUCAAGAUGCAAAAGCAAGGUUGAUUAGAUGGAUUCUUUUGUUACAAGAAUUCGAUCUUCAAAUCAAAGAUAAGAAAGGAGUGGAGAAUGUGGUAGCUGACCACCUUUCAAGGUUAGUUAUAGCACAUAAUUCCCAUCCCUUGCCUUUUAAUGAUGAUUUUCCUGAAGAAUCACUCAUGUUCCUAGUGAAAACUCCUUGGUAUGCUCAUAUUGCUAAUUAUUUAGUAACUGGUGAAAUUCCAAGUGAGUGGAAUGCACAGGACAGGAAGCACUUCUUUGCCAAAAUUCAUUCUUAUUAUUGGGAAGAGCCCUUUCUCUUUAAGUAUUGUGCAGAUCAGAUUAUUAGGAAAUGUGUCCCUGAAGAUGAGCAGCAAGGGAUUCUAUCUCAUUGUCAUGAGAAUGCAUGUGGAGGCCACUUUGCCUCUCAGAAAACAACCAUGAAGGUAUUGCAAUCAGGGUUUACUUGGCCAUCUCUUUUUAAAGAUGCCCACAACAUGUGUAGGAAUUGUGAUAGAUGCCAAAGACUUGGAAAGCUAACAAAAAGAAUCAAAUGCCUAUGAGCCCCAUUCUAAUAGUUGAGCUAUUUCAUGUAUGGGGCAUUGACUUUAUGGGACCUUUCUCAAUGUCUUUUGGUAAUUCUUACAUCUUGGUGGGGGUAGAUUAUGUUUCUAAAUGGGUUGAGGCAAUCCCCUGUAAACAAAAUGAUCACAGGGUGGUUCUCAAGUUUCUUAAAGAGAACAUUUUCUCAAGAUUUGGGGUGCCCAAAGCCAUAAUCAGUGAUGGAGGUGCUCAUUUUUGCAACAAACCUUUUAAAGCUCUGUUAUCCAAGUAUGGAGUGAAGCAUAAGGUGGCUACACCUUAUCAUCCUCAGACUUCCGGGCAAGUUGAGCUAGCUAACAGGGAAAUAAAGAACAUCUUGAUGAAAGUGGUGAAUUCCAAUAGAAAGGAUUGGUCUAUUAGGCUUCAUGAUUCAUUGUGGGCAUAUAGAACAGCUUAUAAGACUAUUCUUGGGAUGUCUCCCUAUCGUCUUGUCUAUGGUAAAGCAUGCCAUCUCCCUGUGGAAGUUGAAUACAAAGCUUGGUGGGCAAUAAAGAAGUUGAAUAUGGACUUGAUCAAGGCAGGAGAAAAGAGAUAUCUAGACCUUAAUGAGAUGGAGGAAUUAAGAAAUAAUGCUUAUAUCAAUUCCAAAGUUGCAAAACAGAGGAUGAAGAAGUGGCAUGACCAACUCAUCUCCAACAAGGAAUUUCAGGAAGGGCAAAGAGUUUUACUGUAUGACACAAGACUCCAUAUCUUUCUUGGGAAGCUCAAGUCAAGGUGGAUAGGGCCGUUCAUUAUUCACCGAGUAUGUUCCAAUGGAGUGGUGGAAUUAUUGAAUUCCAAUGGCAAGGACAGCUUUAGAGUCAAUGGAUAUCGUCUCAAGCCAUUCAUGGAGCCAUUCAAACCAGAAAAGGAGGAGAUCAACCUCCUUGAACCUCAAAAAGCAUAAGCGAAAAAGGGUUUGCUGGACGUGGUUUACCACAGUCCAAAUUUUUUUGUAAAUUUUGUAAAUUUUCAAGUUGUUUCCAUACUUUUGAUCUUAGUUUUUGAUCUUAAAUCAUGUUUUUAUGUGUAUUUUAAUCUUUUUGAAUGAUCCCAGGUGGAAGAAAUUUCAAGGAGAUUGAAAGAAAAAAAAUCGGGAAGAAAUCGGAGCAAAAAUAGAGUAAAAACAGAGGAAAAACAGAGCUCUGCGAAAUUUCGCAGAGUGAAGGAAACUUCUGCGAAAUGAGCACUAUGCUGCAAAACCAUUCCGCAACACUGUAGAAGUCUCUGCGAGGGUAUUUCGCAACUGCGAAGGCGUUCUUGGCACACGAGUGCCACUUCGCAGCACAGGAACUCUCAUUUCGCAGCUACGAAACGCACUGCAAAGUUACUGCGAAAAUGGCAUUUUGCUACGAAAUUUGCGUUUUGUUGCAAAACUUAAACUGACCCUUAGGCUUCCGUUUUUCCUAUUUAUACCGGUCAUUUGAGCUGCGAAAAGGGUUUCAAAAAUCAGAGCGCCAUUCUCGCAAGCUGUUCGUCUUCUUCAGUGAGCCACGCCGACCAAGCCUCCGGUCAUCUUCUCCGAUCAGCAAUGUCGGCCAAAGUUCGGUAUCCCGAAAUGGCGCGAACACAAGGGGCUAAGUCUUCGUCUCCUUCGAAUCGCAAGAGGAGUCUGCGAAAGGAGCCAGUUUCAGAUCCUGCUCCUCAACCUUUGCAGCCGAAAACAAUCCCUCCUCCAAUGAAGCCAGCGCUGCCAAAGCCUCCGGUGAAGCCCGCACCGCCAAAACCUCUGGCAAAACGAUACCUUACCAGGUCAGGGGGUCGGCCACUGUAGAAGAAGCCCAGGGUUGAGAGCUCAGAACCCAUCGAUUUGACUGAGCAAUCUCCAGAGCCUUCACCAAUUCCAACUCCAGUGCCGUCUCCAGUUCCCUCGCCGAUUCCAAUGCCAGUUCUGUCUCCGGUGUCAUCUCCGGCGCCGAAAGAAAAAUCUCAGGAGCCUCAAGCGCCAAUUCCUGAGCCCCAAAUUCCAUCCGAAACAGCUCUGGAAGAAGUAAUUAGGCGGCCAAUGCUUCAUCAGCCACCAAUUGAGGGAAACUUGGAUUGUAGAACUCGGCCAUUCCAUUCCGAGCUAUGCUUCGACUUACCGGCAUUCAGAGUGAGGCCAGAGCUUGCCCAAUCAUUCCAGCUAUUGAGGAGGUAUCACAUGGAGCACUUGCUGACUCCAAGAGAUUUUUUCUAUCCCCGGAUAGCCACGGAUUUCUAUCAAUCCAUGACAACCAAAGAGGUUAGGAAUCCAACCUUGAUUCAUUUCACUAUCGAUGGGAGACAUGGCAUAUUGGGAGCAUGACAUAUUGCUGAAGCCCUGCAAAUUCCCUUUGAGCCAACCCAAUUCGAUAAUUUUAGAGCUUGGGCAAAUCCUACUGAGCUGGAGAUGGUGCGCACCCUUUCCAGAGGAGCUGCAAAUCGAUCACAUCUGCUGAGGGGGGAGCUUCCUCCAGUUAUGUUUUUGAUUGAUGCAUUUUUACGUCAUAAUAUCUAUCCAUUGCAGCAUUGGACCCAAAGAAGGGGAGUCCUCCUAGAAGCUCUUUACAAGAUGUCAGAAGGAUUUUUCUUUGGGCCUCAUCAUCUGAUCCUAGCAGCCCUUCUCUAUUUCGAAGAGAAGGUUCACAGAAAGAAGCUUCAGAGAGCUGAUUGCAUUCCCCUCCUCUUUCCAAGGCUGCUAUGCCAAAUUUUGGAGCAUCUGGGAUGCCCUUCUAAGCCUCAGCUGGAGAGAAAGCGAAUUUUCCGUGAACCAUUCACUCUUGAUAAAUGGAACAAUAUGACGGCCUACAAAGUUGAUCAGCCUGAGCAGCCUCAGCCAGCUGCAAGAAGAGCAUCCCCAAGACAUAUACCUGAAGGUAUAACAGUUGCUGCUCCUGCCAUUCCUAGAGCUCCACCAGCUGCACCAGCUUCAUCUCAGCCAUCCACAUCAGCUGAGCCGAGGAUGGCCAUUCCUAUAUCUGAAUAUAGAGAGUUGUGUCGUGCAUUGGAGACUCUCACAGCUUCUCAUAGCAGUCUUGCUCAGGAGAUGGCAACCAUUAGAGCAUGCCAAGAGCAAAUGUUGGCCACUCAGGCUCAACAAGCUGCCAUCUUAAGGCAGCUCCAGCUUCAUUUCAAUCUGCCACAAGCUGUAGAGCCCUCCACUGAUACACCACCAGAGCCACACUCUCAUCCUUCAGAGUCUCAUCCUCCAGAGCCCCAAGCCCCAGUUGAUGCACCUACUGAAGAGGCAGAUCCUUCUGCCUAGUCCCAGCACCACCCCACUCAUCAGACUAUAUUAUAUAUCUAAUAUUUUUAUGUAUUUCGUUUUUUUAGUUGAAAAGAAGUCCCAGUAUUUUGGUACUAUAUUUGGGAUUCCUUGUGUUACUUAUCUUUUGCAUUGUAAUCAAAUGAAUUUAAAGUAAUACAAGUUGAAUAUUUCUUGUUAACAGUUAGCAUUAAGUUGUCUUUAUUUCCUUUUCUCACAUAUUCUAUUCUUUUUUAAACAUGUGGUUUUCCCCAAUCAAUAUUCGAAUUUGAUAUCAACAAGGAGGUACCACUUCCUCCCUUUAAUUACAGUCACUCAUAUCACAUUGAGGACAAUGCUUAAUUCGGUUGGGGGGAAUGAGGAAGGAAGUAUGCUAAAUCUUUUUGGUAAUGCAAUUAUUUUGGUAAAUUAGUUGUAAUUUUUACUUUUUACUCUUGUUACUCUAAUCUCCAUGAAUUUUGAGGAAAAAUUUUCAAAUUAAACCAAGAGAAAUUGAACUGUUGUUUUUCACUUGACUUAGAGUAUGGAUUAUGCUUACUAAAGUGGUUCAAUUGUUUAAACUUCUAUUGAAAUUGAAUUUAGUUCUUCCACUUUAAGCUAUCCACACACUGUGCACAUUAGAUUCCGAUUAUAAGAUGAAAAUCUAUUUCCCUCUUGACUUAAGAUAAUUUUGGGACUUGGUAUAUUUGACCUCAUUUGAUAAAAUUGAAACACCCUGCAAAAGGCUAAUGAGCCUUUGAAAUAAAGAAAGUUGUUUGCUUGCCUUGAAACCUGAGCAAGGUCUGAGGGGUAUAUGGUGAAAGCCUUUAAAGCCUGGUGCCCUAAGCCUUAAUUGGUUGGGAGUCAUCGACCUCAAUGCUCGUUACAAGGGUGAAUAGGUAGAGUUAACAUAUGGUAAAUGCUUGGGUAUUAGAAAUUCAUUCUUAAAAGUCUAGGGAAAAAUCCGAGGAGUUAGUGGUUGAAAGAUCCUUAAAGCUUGGUGCCCUAAAUCUUAAAUGGUUGGGAGUCAUCGAUGGACCCCCAUAACAUGGACAAGUCAGAAAAAGUACCACAUAAAGCUACCUUAAAAAAAAAAAUAAAAAAAUAAAAAAAAAUGAUGAAAGUGUGUUCUUUUCUUAUUGAUUUUGGUCAGUUUGCUAAGUGUUGAAAAGAGAUAGGUUGGGGGGAGAGAUUAGUUUAGCAUAUUAUUCUCGGAAGCUAAGGAACCAAUACACAUAGAUUUUUGUGGAAGAUUAAAGUUUGGUUCUUAGAAAGUGGAAAUGACUUUAAAACUUCAGUUUGCAUAAUGCACUCCCUUGAUUGACAGUGUUUAGCAUAGUUUGUUAUAACUCUUGUUGAAAUUUGGGUUUGUAUUUCUUUAAUGUUUCAUGUGAGAAUUAGAUCAUCAUGCCACUUGAGAAUUGAUUUUGAUCAGCAUGAUGUGGUAAAUUUUAAUAUAGGUUGCUUUUUAUUUUCAUUGUUCUCUCCUAUUUUGCUAAGGGACUAGCAAUAUGUCGGUUGGGGGGAGUGAUUACUACUCAAAAAGUGCUAUUUGAUAGCCUAUAAUAAAUCCUUUUAAACACUUUUGAGUAGUAGUUUAGGCCUUUUAACUCAAUUGGCAUGUUAAGGACCCUUGAAAGGGAUUUUAAUCACUUUGUGUAAGUUUUGGUGUUUUUGUUAGUAAUUUAAUCACCAAAGCAAGUCAAGACUGAGGAGAGAUAUGAGGAAUCUUGGGCAAAGCUUAGAAGUCAUUUUCCAAGAGUAAAUCCGGAUUGCAAGGAGAAAAAGUAAAGAGAAUCUGCCAUGAAGCCUAUUCUUGAUGACAGUCGUAGCAGCCACUUUUGGAGCAUUUUAUGAAGCUCAAAUGAUGCAUGCUAUAUACCAUUUCAAAGCUCAGGAAGUCAACAAUCCAAUGCUUCAAACGGUGUGCAAUUCGGAGUUGAAACGAAGAAGUUGCAGCCGUUACAAGCCAAUCACUUCGAGCUGAAGGAAGCAUUUUGCAAAGUGCUGCGAAAUCACCCUUUUGUUGCGAAGUGAUUUCGCAGCCUUUUUGAACAGUCUGAUGUUUCUCCUUCUGACGAUGCCCGACAUAUACCGCGAGAGGGAAGCUAGGAACCUCAAGGUGGGAGCCAACUUCGCAGCCCUGCGAGUUUAACUUGUUGAUGCGAAAAUAUUUCGCAGCCCUCUUGAGUGUCUGCGAAAUCUCGCAGACACCAUUUUUCUCCUGCGAAAUGGUUCCUGAAGCCUCCCGAUAUUUGCUACCGACAUUGGGAGAUAUUUUCCAUUAGAUUUUUGUUGUCUAAAUCCCAAAGUACUCCUUGUAAACCACCAAUUACAUGAUUCCUUAGCUUUUAAGUUAGUAAAAAGACUAAAUAUCUAUGUAAUAAUUAGUUUUAUAUUAUGUUCAUAUAUAUACCUCUCGGGAGCCUGUUCUCAGGGAGGAGUUCCUUCUGUAAAAGUUUGGGUAAGCAAGUAAAGUUUAUUUCUUUCUAUUGCUUUACCUUCUCACUUUGUAUUUUCAUUUUCUUACUAAGUUAUGAAUUCUCUGAGGAGUUUUUCCCAGAGAAUGAGUAACUAAACCUCUAAUUCCUUGGAGCUAAGGUUGCCAGGGAAGGUUCCAAGUGCAAGAAUGCAAGGCUUUGUGGUUUUAGCUAUUAAUGAAGAGGAAGUGAAAUCCUUUAAUGAUUUCUAUGUUUUUAGUUAACUUAAAACACCUUAGAGUCACCUGGGCCAACACUUGGUAAGGCAUGUGAUUUCCAACCAAGGAAAUGCACUAGUUUACCCCUUACGAGCCUCUGGGAGGUGACUUUAGGGUAGGAUUUUCUAGAAUAGCCAACACUUGGUAAGCUUUUAGACUCCUAGGAGACAUCCAUUAGUUAUCUCUUGCGAGCUUUUGACGGGUAAUCCAAGGUUAAAGAUCACCUUGAAUGGUUGAGGCUUAGUGAGAGGCUUAAACCAUUGCAAGUUGCAUCAGUGAGAGAAUUAAAGUGAAAUCUAAUUGAAGGAGUCUCUGUACAACACCGGUUAGAGAAUUGACUAUAUGUUGAAUCUCUAACGCGAGGAAAUGAACCAUCUGACCAGAGCCGUGUCUUUUGCAUGAGGAACCACCCCAGUGAACCUAACUCUCCAAGGAAUGCUUUUCUUCCUAAAUUAUUCCAAACUUCUGUUGUGUUAGUUAGUUUAAGUCUAAACCUUUACCAAUCAAAGCUUGUGUUUUACUUCUUAAGCUAACCAUGAAAUGAAACAAAACCAAUUCACUUGGAAUUGGUAUCAUUGAUAGCUUGCUAAUCCUUCCCAGUGAACGAUCCUAGAGCCGCUAUACUAUAGUAGCUUUUUCUUUGCUACCCUAUUAUAUGGUGUUAUAGGUUAUAAAUUUUUUUGAUUACUCCCUCAAUCAAGGAGCACCAGUUGGACACAAAUCAGCUGAGACACCAAUUGGGCACGAAUCAGCCCAUCUAGGCACAUUUGGCUCAUUUAGGAUCAUAGGCUAAUUUAGGCACAUUCGACCCAUUUAGGUUGCCUUGACCCAUUUAGAAACACCCAAGCCUAUUUAGGUCACUUAGGCCUACUUAGGCACACCUUGCCCUAUUUAGGUCACUUAGGCCCAUUUAGGCACAUUCGACCCAUUUUGGAUCACCUUGACCCAUUUAGGCAUAUUUGGCCCAUUUAGGAUCAUCGUGGCCCAUUUAAACACACCCUGACCCAUUUAGGUCAUUUAGGCCCAUUUAGGAGCAUUCGACCUAUUUAAACAUAUUUGGCCCAUUUAGGAUCAUCGUGGCCCAUUUAAACACACCCUGGCCCAUUUAGCUCAUUAAGGCCCAUUUAAGAACACAUUAACCCAUUUAGGUCACUUAGGCCCAUUUAGGUACAUUUCAUCCCCUAGCCCAUUUAGAAACACCCAAGCCCAUUUAGGUGAUUUAGGCCAAUUUAGGCACAUUUGGUCCAUUUAGACACUCUGGGCUCAUUUAGGUUCACGUAGGCCCAUUUAGGCACAUCCGACCCAUUUAAGAUCACCCUAACCCAUUUAGACACAUUCGACCCAUUUAGGAUCGUCUAGGCCCAUUGUAGCACAUUUGGCCCAUUUAUGAUCACCAUGGCACAUUAGGCCCAUUUAGGGUCACUUAGGCCCAUCUAGGCACACGCUAAGCCCAUUUAGGUCACCCGUUGUCUCACUUCUUAUUGCAUGGUUUGCGUGAUUGCAUUGUUGAACUUCCUUGCAGGGCUUGCAUGACACUUUGUUUUUUUUUUUUUUGUUAUUAUUAAUUACUUAUUUAUUUUUAUUUAUUAUCUUGCUAUUUAUUUAUUUAUUAUUUAUCUAUUAUUAUUUCAUUAUUUUCUAAAUUAUUUUUAAUUACUAUUCAUUUGUUCAAUCUAAUUUUUUAGUAUUAUUUUUUUUUGUGUUUUUGUAGGGAAAUUUACCAAAGAGAGCCAACGGAGAUGGAAAUUAAGAAUCACCAAAAUAAAAAAGGAAGAUAAAGGCAAAAGAGAGUAAAACUUACCAAAAGGAGAGGGGCUUGUGAGUUGCAUUAUGAAAGUAUGGAGAACACAUUUUGGGAGGUUUAUCAAAGAGAGAGUCAAUGGAGGUGUAAAGCAAGAAUUACCAAAAUAAAAAAGGAAGACAAAGCGAGAGAGAGAGUAAAACUUACCAAGAGAAGAGGGGAUUGAGGGUUGCAUUAUGAAAAUAUGGAGAACAUGUUUUGGUAACUGAGAAAUUCAGCAUAUGGAGGUUUUGGAGUAAGGAGAUGAAGGAUUUGGUCAAGGUGGAAUUUUAAGAAAAAAGGAUAUUCAAUGUGGUAGGAAGGAAUGUUUAGCAUAUUAAGGAAGAAUGUGGGGAUUGGUAGGGGGGAAGAAGAACAACUGCAAUUUUUCUUUUUUCUUUUUUGGUAGAGAGAACACUUUGGCAAAUUUUUGGGAGGUUCAACGUGCAUGUACAAUAAGAUCUCUUGAAAGAGAACCUAUAGAAGAGGGCACAAAUUAUUUUUGGAGACAAUUAGUUGCAUCUUAAAAGGGAAUUGAAGGAAAAUAUUGAUGAUGAUAUUGAUUUUAUUAGUUUCCAAAAUAUUGAUAUUAGUUUCAUGAAUAUGGAUGUUUUAGUUUAGAUAGAUAUUGAUGUUUUAGUUUUGAAAAUAUUGAUGUUUGCUUAGAUGUUUUGAUUCAGAUAAAUUUUGACAUUUUAGUUUUGAUAAAUAUUGAAUUCUUGGAUGUGUUUGCAUGUUGGUUAUAUUUUUAAAUAAAAAUUCUCAGAACGUUAGUCAUCCGAGAAAAUAAAAAUAAUAUAAGAAAAAAGCAAAGUUGUUGCCUUUUUUUUUUUUUUUUUGGCCUGUAUUAAUUUUAUUUUUAAAUUUCAUUGGAUGAUUAGUUGGGGUAUAAUUCACAUGUUAUUUUUAUUGGAUGAUUAGUUUGGUUAUAAUUCACAUGGUGGUAUUAAUUUAAAAAUUCAUUGGAUGAUUAUUUUGAGCAUAAUUUUUGUAAAAUUUAUUGGAUGAUUGGUUUGUAUAAUUUUAAUGUUAGUAGAUUUUAAAAAUUUAUGGAAUGAUUGUUAGGUUAAAUUCCCAUGUUGAAUGUGUUUUAAAAAUUCGUUAAAAAAAUUAAAUACAAAUUCUUUUUUUAUUUAUUAAUUAAAUAAAAUUAAAUGAUUGGCUAUAAAUUAAAUAUUUACAAAUGAUUCCUCAGAAUGGGAAACGAAAGGCUAUAAAUGAUUGGCAGCUUAGAAACCUCAACAAGCCCAUCUCUAAAACCUUUCUAAAAUAAGAAAGUCAUCCAAGAAGAUAAAAAUAAUAUAAGAAAAAGGCAAAGUUGCUGCCUUUUUUUUUUUUUUUGGGCUGUAUUUAUUUAUUAAUUUAUUUUUGUCAAUCUCCUACAGAAGGUGGCAGAGAAAGGUAGAGAGGAGUUAUUAGAGUUACAGACGAAUAAUCAGUUUCAAUGCUAUUGUCUUCUUGUUGUAAGGGUAAAAUAAGAGGCAAACAAAUUAAUGAAUUCAUUAUCUUAGCUUUCUAUUGAAAUGCCUUCCAAGAAAUGUUUUGAAAGGUUUUGAGAGCUUUGAGUUUAGUCUAGAAUAAUGGUAGUAUAUUUCAGUGAAUAUGCAUUCUAAAAAAAUAUAUACCUUUAGCAUAUACCAAGAUAUCCAGUAACAACCAAUCAAAACAAAAUCACUCUUCUUGGAAAACAUGGAUGUUCGAGUACCCAGCUCUUUUCUUUAAUUGUGCUUUCUUCUUUUUGUGCCAACAUCUGCUCUCUCUCCAGCAUGCCAGUGUGCGUCCCAGCCAGCUCUUUUGUGCUUUAAAUGAAUUGAAUACUUGAUCUUAUUCUGCCAUUGUUUUGGCUCAAACCUAAGAAGUAUAUUUACCCUAACUUCUUUUCAUGUCUUCAACUUACUCAAAGGCUCACAAGUCCCAUUGGAAGUAAGCAGUUAAGGAUUUUUGAACUAAAAUUAUCAAACAUAGUCUAAUAGGUUAUACUCUUUUCAACAGUUUAAAUUGUUUUUGUUGAUAGAUUAUUUGAUUUUUCUCCUAGCUGGCCCAGUUGUUUAUUUCAAAGUGCAGUUUAGAACAACUUUCAACAUUUGAAUAAGGAAAAGAAAAUAUAUAGAUGAAUUGACUGAUUCAAAGGGCAUAUUACAGUCAGUCUGGUCACCUACAUUAUUAAUGAAAUUAUUGACGCAGAAUAACAGGGCGGAUGACUUCAAAUGGAUACACUGAGGUCUAUCUGUGCGUGUUAGGCAUUCAUGAACCUGUUUUCUUCGGUCAAAGAGCAGCCAUUACAAGGAAAAAACAUGGCGAAAAUUAAGUGAAGUAUGACUUCUGGAAGAUUUAUCACCUUCGUAAAUGAAGUGAGAGUUUUGACCGAAUUGAAGUAAAAAAAUUAAAUGCAACGGCCGGACCGGCUCCAACUAUUAAGAUUAUAAGUGCCACACAGAAAGAACAGAAAGAACGGUCCUAGUAAAUGAAGUAUAAAGACAUGUAAACAUAAAAUUGUCCAGGUAAAUGAAGACAUGCAAUGAAGAAGAAAUCUGUUGCAGACUACACAAAUCACAACCACAUAAAUCAACCACCCACCCAUUUUUCAAACUUCCAGCUCUCAUGCACUGGCACAGUUCGGUCCUUUUAAAGAUUAAAGUAGGCAUCUAAAAUUUUAUUGGUUUCAAGAAAUUUGGUGCACCAGGUUCCAAUGAAGAGAAGCUUUUUGUUCUAAAUAUUUAAUAGUAGAUUCCAUUCUUAGCUUACCAAUAUAUAUAAAUUACUCAGGACCUUAAGAAGUUGAUAUUACAAUUUAAACAAUGUUAUAUCAUGUGUAUUAGGAGAGAACCAAUCUCACCCACAAAUCAAGAACACUCAAUUGUCAAUUCUUAAGUUUAUCACUAAUAUAUGUAUACUUAUAUAGUUUAUGUAUCUUUUGGAAAGUCAUGUGUAUAUUUAAAAGAUUAUAGUGUACACCAAUAAUAAUAUACUUUCACCAUUCAUCUAUGCACCUCUUUCUAGUAUCAGAGCAAUUCUACCUCCCAUGAGUUCUUUUUUUCUCCUUCAUCCUAUGUUUCACCAUGGCUGAAGCAAGCUCAACAAGGCUAUCCCACCUUCCCUUACCUACCAAUACCACCGUGAACCUUAACAAUCUCAUUGCCAUCAACACAAUUAGCUAGCCAACUUCCACUCAAGCUCACCCUCACUAACUAUUACUCAUGGAAAACAUAGUUUGGUGCACUGCUCUUUAGAUAUGACUGUAGACCCUCAAUUUUGUCCCUUUAACACAUGUCUUUAAGUUCGUUUUCAGUGCUCCACAAUAGUUCCUUGGUGGCCCAGUACUAUUCAUUACUUACCUUUCUUGAGCCACCUCGAAGACUCUGGUUGAGGGAUUAUCUGACCCCUUAUUAUGACCCUUGGCAGUUUUGAUUUAGACUUAGGUUUUUCCUUCCUUUUUAGGAUAGCAUUUAGGUGCACUUUUAGGAUAGCACACUUAGGCAUUGUCCUAAACAUCCUAGUCUCACUUAGACACUUUUUUUUUUAGACUCACUCAGGUUCGCUAGGUCCACCUAAGCAUCCCAGCCCAUUUGCAUUUUUAAUGCUUGCAUGUACUUGAUCUCUUAUUUAUUUAUUAUUAUUUGGUUAGUUAUUUGUUUUUAUUUAUUUAUUUUAUAGAAUAUUGCAUGAGAUUGAUGAUUAAUUGUGUAAAUUGAUGUCUUAAUUAUUUUUGUGUACCUAUGAUAGACAUAAUGUUUUUAAUUGCAUAAUUUUAAAUUAGUUUUAAUUUUCAAUUUCAUGACCUUUACUAAUUUUAAUUCUUAUUUUUAUUUUGGCAUGAGAUUCGAAUGCACACAUUGGAGAAGAUCCUUGAUGUACACGGCUGCAUAUAUGUGGGAAGAUUCUAUGCAACAUGGAAAGGAGAUUUAAAAUGUUAAAGAAAGGAAAGCAGAUCACUUAUGAAGGAUGGAAAGAAGAUUUUUCUUUUAUUUAUUUUUUUUUUUCUAAAAAAGGGGCUGCCAUUUAUUGGGAAGGAGGAUCACCAAAAUUUUAAAGAAAGGAAAGUAGCUGCCCAUAGAAUAAUAUAUGGAAACUUCCAUACAAAAGGGGGGAUUCUUGGAUGGUCAGAGGGGGAAAGGAGCACGUAUUGGAGGAUGGGAGAAUUCUGAAGGGAGGAGAGAGGAACGUGUAUUGGGAACGCAGGGAGAUACAUAGAAAGCAAGGAGGUUAGGCUAUGAUUUUGAGAGGGCGGGCUGCUGUUUUCAAAGGGAUCAGCCCGUGGAUUUUGAGAGUGAGAGAUUAGUCCGCGGAUUUUUAGAGUGGAGGAUCAGUCCGUUUCAGAGUAGAGGACUGGCUGCUAUUUUUUUAAGAGAUCAGUCUAUGGAUUUUCAGGAUGGUGGACCAAUUCGUUUUAGAGGAGAGGACGGUCUGCUUUUUUUUUAAAAAAGAUCAGUUCGUGGAUUUUGAGAGUGGGAGAUCACUCCGUGAAUUUUUAGAGUGGGGGAUCAGUCCGUUUCAGAGGAGAGGGCAGGCUGCUAUUUUUUUUUAAGAGAUCAGUCCAUGUAUUUUCAGGGUGGAGGAUCAGUCUGUUUCAAAGGAAAGGGCGGGCUGCUAUUUUUUUAAGAGAUCAGUCCAUGGAAUUUAAGAGUGGACGAUUAGUCCAUUUCAGAUGAGAAGGUGGGCUGUUAUUUUUUUUAGAGAUCAGUUCGUGGAUUUUCGAAGUGGAAUUUGGAGGAUCCUCACGCAGCCAUAGAAGGAGUGGGCUGCCACAGAAAUAAAGGGAGAAGAACAGGAAAAAGGAGAGAGAUCAAUCCAUGUUUCAAAGAGAUUAGAGGCUGCUGUUUGGGCAAAGAGCAGUCCGUGUUUUGAAAUGAUUUUGGGGGCUGCUAUUUGGAGGGAUCAAUCCGUGUUUUGAAAGGAAGGGGGCAGCAGCGGCACGAAGGAGAAUUCGGGUGAAAGGAGAAGGAUGGAUUUUCUGGAAUGUGAGAGGGUGCAGCCGCAACACUUUGUGCGAUACCCGAGCAUCUCCGACAACAUCUUAUGGCUGUUGGAGAUUCGCACCAGCUUGUUAAUCCCGCCACCUAAACACCACAGCCGCACCGGAUUUUCAAAGGGAAUUCAUAUCCACGCAGCACUUUGAGGAUUUGCAGCACAUAGGUAUCCACCACACCAUGCAUCCUUGGAAUUUUUUUUUAAUUAAAAAGUCCUACUAGUGGAAAGUAGUCUUCACAUUUUGAAAAGGUAUUUAAAGAAUUUGCUGUGCAAGGGUAUCCACCACACUAUGCAUCAUUGGAAUUGUUUUUUUGUUGUUUUUAUUAAAAAAAAUCCUACUAGUGGAAAAUGACCUUCACGUGUUAAAAAAAAGUAAACUAAUUCAUCCCAUUUCAAUUUUGCUCCAUGAAACAUUCAAUUCAAUUCAUAGUUGUUUAGAAUUUUGGUUAUUUAGUUUAAUUUAUUCCAAUGUCAAUAUAUUCAUGCUAUCAAGUUGUUAAGUUUAGCUUUAAAUUAUUCCUAUUUGGCCUAUGCAUUUUCAAGGUUUAUUUUAUUAGAAAUUCAUGGUUAAUUUAGAUGUUAUUUAUUUAUUUAUUUUUAAUUUUUCUUAUCUAAAUAAAUUAAUUAUUACUGAUUCAUUAUUCUAGUUUGAAGAUUAUGAUUUUUGUUUAAUAUAGUUACAAUUUAUUAUUCUUAGUUUGACAAAUUAAUUUUUUAGUAUUGGUUUGGGCAAUUUUUGUUAAUAAUGGAAAAGUUAAGAUUUUUUAGAGUUUAGGUAAUUUGUUAUGAUAGGUAAAAAUUUAGAAUUUUGAUUAGCAUUAUUUUGGUUCUCAAUUAGGAAAUUCAUAAUUUCUUUUAGUUUAGUUUUAAUCUAUCUUUUAGUUUAGAUGUUAUUAAAAUUCAGUUCAUUAGUUCAAUUGAUUCCAUGUCACAUCUUUUCGUAUCUAAAGGUUGUUAAAUUUAAUUCAUGAUUCAUUCUUUUAGUUUAUUAAUUUUAGAAUUUAAGUUGGUUAAUUUAUUUCAUUCCGCAUUGAUAUAUUCAUGUUUUAAAAUAAAUAAAGAAAAAAAAUUAUUUUAGUUUUGAUUGAUCCUACUUUAGUUGAUAUUCUUUAGAGUUUUAAUUAAUUCGAUUGGUUUCAUAUUGUUUAGUUUAUGUUAAAAUUUUUCAAUUCCAUUUUGCUAUUAAUUCUAUGCUUUCAAAUUGUAGGCUAUUAGUUUAAUCUAUCCCCAUGUUGCCAUUUUGCGUUUAAAAAUAGUUCAUUUUCGUUUUUGAUUAAUUUUAUUUAUUUUAUGUGUUUGUCUUUUUUUUUAUUACUUUCUUAUUUUUUAUUAUUAUUUUUUUUAUUUUUUUAUUUUUUAUUACUCAUUUGUUUAGUUAGUCGAUUAAAUUUAUGACUCCAAAUUGUCAAUAUUAGUUGAUAUGUAUCGUUUGUACUAUUUUAAAGGUCACAUAAUAUUUAGUGCUUGAUUAAGUUUAUCUUAAGAUUAAAUGUUGUUAAAGUUUCAAUGCUUGUAAGAUCUAAGGUUUCAGUUUAUCACUUUGGUCAUCCUUUGUCAAAUUCAAUUUUUAGAGGCUAUCGGAAAAUAGUGAAGAUUAGCCUCCAUUCUCACCUUCAAUUUUCUUGGUUGUCAAAAAUUCUACUUUGUGAUUUUGUUCUCUUUUGUUUUGCUUGGUAUUUUGAUUCAUACACUUUAUUGCUUUCAAAUUAAUUUCUUUUUAUUUUUAAAAUACAACACUAUUCUCAAAAUCUCAUUUUCCUUAAAAAUUCAUUUAGAGUUCUUAGAAUCAAAAUCUCAUUUUUUUAAAAAUAAUGUGCAACCAUGUUUUGAUCGGUUCACAUCUUUCAAAUAAAAUUACAGUUUUGAAUAAAACACGAAUCAAAGCUUGUGGUCCCAAAUAAAUGGGAUAAUUCUAGGCUAAAUUCGUGUAUAUCAAUUGGGGAAUUGGUGAAACCCCUACAUAAGAAAAUCUUUUCAAAAAUUAUUUUCGUUGCCACUUUUGUCACUUGUUGAAAUUAUGUCUAUCUUUUUAUUAGAAAUUGUAUACAAGAUGAGUGUGAUAAUUAUCGUUUUCAUAUACUUUGAUAAUUUCUGCUAUGCUAAUUAGAUAACGAGCAUGCUAGGCUUUCUAUAUUUUAUUAUUUAUCAUCUAACCCCUUACAACUUGAGGAAGCAUGUUACAAAUUAUCUAUGCUAUCCAGGUAUGUCUUCUAUCACCUACUUUCUGAAUUUUGUGAACAUGCUUGUCAUUGUGAAAUAAUACUUAUGUCUAAUAAUGCUCGAAUAUUCUGAUAUACAUGUUUCAUUGCUUGAUUAUUUCUGAUAAAAUACAUGUUGGAUGAUAUAUUGUUUAAAUUAACCAUCGAUGUUUUAUGAUAGCGCUUGAGAAGCCGUCCAGGUAUGCACCCUAACUCUCUUUUAUGGAAAUCUGAUCCUAUUUGGCAUGUUAUUUUUCGAAAUCACCUUAGUCUGUUUAGGUAUCCCCAAUUAAUCAAUUAAUUACCAUUUUACCCCCAACUUUGUUAGUAGAGACCUUUUUAGGGCUUAGAGGGGUGCUACCUCCUAGAGGUACCUUCCCAAUAAGUAACCUGAUCCCCAGACCUAGACUCGGGUUUCUCAAAGACACGCUUUUCCAAAAAUUAUGGAGUCAUUUUUUUUAGGGUUUUAUUUCUUGUUUUAUUUUCCCUUUAAAAAAAAAAUAAAAUAAGUGGCGACUCCAACUGUUUUUCAAAAAAUCAAUUUUUCACAAAAAUAAUAAAAAGCGAGUCUCGCCAAUCGAGUGGGGACGCACGUGAAAAAUGCGGGUCCACAAUGACCUACUUGGCUACAUUGACGGAACAAAGCCAGGACAAACAAAUCUCAAUCCUAACUAUACUUUUUGGACAAGUAGGACAAACUUCUUCUUCUAGGAAUCAUCGGCUCUCUUAUUGGAUUUUAAGGGAAUGGAAACAAAGACUAUCCCAAAAGACACAAACAAAUAACAGAAUGAAUAAAAAGAAAAAAUUAUCGGCUGAGGUGUGACAAACACUAUCCUUGAAAUAGAUCCACCCUCCUCGAAGACAAACUCGGUGCACUAGGGUACCAAUGGUCUACUUCCAGGAUUCAACAGCUAGAUCUCGCCUUGGGUGCACUCUGAAAUCGAGAUGUAUACAACUUGAAUUUUUUAAUAAAUUCCUCCAAUUAGAUGUAUGAAAAUACUCCCUGAAAAACUCUUCAAAAAAAUUCUCUAAAAAAUUUUGUAUCCAAAGUAUAGAGAGGGGUGACCUGCUUUUUUAGGCCACUAACACAAUCUCAAUGGGAAUCUACUUAUAAUUAGAAGAUGACACAAAGUGGAAGGUGAUUCUACUUAUAAAAGGAAUGAGAUUCCACUAGCACAAUUCCAAUAGGACUCUUCCCAAAAAUAUAACACUAAUAGAAUAAAAUAAAAUAUAAAAAAAUAAAAAAAUAAUUCUCAAUAGGACACUUCCCAAAAAUUUAAGACUCAUAGAAUAAAAUAAAAUAAAAUAAAGUUAAUUUCCAAAAAUAAAAAUAGAAAUUAUUUACACUCAUCCUAUAUCUCUCAGCCACAAAGUCAUACUUGUGGUUCAUUGAUGCAAAACUUCCACUAAAGCUUGGCAUCAUUUUUCAAAGCUCUAUGUCAAUCCCUCAUUCUCCAGAACCAUGGGAUUGGUAGAGCAACUCAUUCUUCUCAACCAUGGCUCUUAACCAAUAGUUAACUACCUUGCAACAGUCCAUGAUAUUAUUGAUGAAUUGGACCUUCUUAGAGAAGCCAUUCCAAACCAAUAACUCAUCACUUACGUAUGCAAACAUGUCACCCCUGAAUUCAAUGAAUUGUUGUUGUUAUAUGCACACAAGAUACUAUGAUCACAUUUGAUGAGCUGAAUGAAAAAUUAGUGGAAUAUGAUGCCUUCCUCAUGUAGGAAGAGCUUUGUUCCACUAGCACUCUUGGUACCACUAAAGUCAACAAUACACAAUUUUCAUCUUCCCAUAGUGACAAAAACGCUAGCCAAAAAUAUUUCCCUAGUAGGAAAGGAUACCAAGGCUAACAUCCUCCUCAUUUUGGGAAUCAACACCCCAACAAGAACGCCACUUUGAUUUGCCAAUUCUGUGAGAAGAAAGGUCAUACUACUUGCUAGUGUUACAUGGCUAAGAAAUUGUUCCUUUCAUCCACACUUACUACUAGUCCAAUUAUCCCCACAAACAACUUCUUAACCAAUUGGCUCGCAGAUAUCAGUGCCUCACAUCAAGUUACAUCUAAUCUUAACAACUUGUCUCUCUGCUAACCAAUGAAUCUAGUCAUUAAUAGUUUUCACAUUUCCUAUACUUGGAGGGUUGUUCCAAGAUUAAAUAAAGUUUUUUCCCAUGCUAAUCUUAAUAUAGUGAUUCAUGCCCAGUCGGGUGUUUAUCAAAACAUUUAUAAAACCUACAACACCUUAUACUAAGGUAGCAAAGACAAAGCUACUAUAGUAUAGUGGCUCUAGGAUUGUCCACAGGGAUGGGUUUUCUUUGUACACUUAACAUUAAUGAAAGGAGAAAUGGUGAUUUCCUUUUUGGAAGUUAGCUUUUAAAUGAAAAUAAGAUUGAUUGGAAGGGUUGAUUUUAAGUUAAGCAAACAUAAACAACUGAAAUUACUAUAAAGAGAAAGUCUCUUGGAGCUAUAGGUUACUAGGAUCAGGUUCCUGUUGCAAAGUGGGAAAUUACGGAUCUUCUCCUCGCAUUGGGGAUAAUAACAUAAAGGAUGGUUAUCUCCCGAACCGGAUUUGUAUUUAGCAAAUAAGUUUUGAUCCAAAGGAUUCUUGAAAAAUGGUAGUUGCUUCCCAUUAAUGGCUUCAAACACUAAAGACCCUCACCUUGAACCACCUUCCAAUGGCUCGUACUUGAUAACUAAUGGACAUCCAUGGAUCUAGCAAUAAGCAUCCAUAGAAUCCUAAAAGCUUACCAAGUAUUGGCCAUUCAAGGUGAUUCUAAGGGAUCAAAGCUAAAACUUGAAAUACAAACCAUUAACGAUACACAACUACCUUCAUUUUUAGCAAGGAAAACUCCCACCUUUACAUAUGGGUCCUUUACCUAGCUUCCAUCACUCCAAGAAACGUGAAACUUAGCCACUCAUCCUCUGAGAAAUCAUCCUCUGAGGGUGUUUGGCUAGAGAGAAAGUGAAGAGAAAAUGAGAAGGAAAGGUAGAGAAAAACUCGUCUUUACAAAAUAUCUAAAACAUAAUAUCUCCCAUCCUUUGAGAGGUUUUCCAACCCCUAUUUAUAGAUCCUAAACAAACCCUAAUGUCAUUUAUCUAUUACAAAAAGAGAAAAGGAAAAAAUUACAAUUCUGGAGAUUUUUCCCGAAGGUCGGUGUGCAUAAAGUGAUUUUUGCACACCCUACAAAAAUUUGGCACACCUUGCGAAAAUUUGGCACACCUUGCGAAUUUGAUGAUUUUGCCUUGCAAAAUGCUCUGUUUCCCUCCAUCUUACUACUGAUAGCUUUGCCAACCCCUUUCCAAGUUUGCCAAGGGGUUUUGAAGUGCUCCAAGGCUCGGAUUCUUCAUGUGAUUGAUCUUCAACUUACCUUGCCAUAGCUUGCACAAAACUCUCCCUCAAUCUUGGCCUGUUUUGGUGAUAAAAAAGCUACCAAAAACACUAAAACUUACCAGAAAUUGGUUAGUAACAUUCGCUAGGUCCUUACAUGCCAAUUGGGAUAAAAAGGUCUAACUACUACUCAAAAGUGCUUAGUACAAUUAAGUUUAAGCUUAUAAAAAUGCACUUUUUGAGUAGUAAUCACUCCCCCCAACUGACACAUUGCUAGUCCCUUAGCAAUGAAGGAGAGAAAAAAAAAUGCAUCUCUCAUGGAAAAUCAAAGAUAUAAAACCCAACCUUCAACAAGAGUUAUUAAAUCACUUACCUAAUCACAAAAUACAAAGAGUGGGCAUUAUGCAAAUUUAAGCAUCAAAAGAAUUUCCACUCCCAAAGAUCCAACUCUUAAUCUUCCACAAGAAUCUAAGUGUUAAGGUGAUUAGUUUCCAAUUAUAGUAUGCUAAACUAUACUCUCACUCCCCCUAACUUAGUUCUUUCUCAAACUUGGCAAACUGACCAACAUCCAAUAGGUUAAGAACGCACCUCUUUUAUUUUACAAUUCUUUUAUUUGCUCAACUUCACCCAUUCACCCUUGUAAUGAGCAUUAAGGUCUAUGACUCCCAACCAAUUAAGGUUUAGGGCACCAGGCUUUAAAGACUUUCGCCAUAUACCCCUAGGACCUUGCUCGGGUUUCAAGGCAAGCACAACAUUUUUUUAUUUUUUUUCUGAAGGCUCAUUGGCCUUCUAUAAGGUGUCCCAACACUAUUAAAAUGAGGUCAAAGGUACCAAGUCAAAAUUUUCCUAAGUUCAAGGGGUGAGAUAAUUUUUCAUCUUAUAAUUGGAACCUAAUGUACACAGUGUGUGGUAAGAUUAAAGUGGAAGAAACAAGGUUGAAUUCAAUAGGAGCUUCAAUAAUUCAUCAACCUCAAUAAACACAAUACAAACUUUAAGACUUAAGCAAAAAGGCAAGAACUCAACUUCUCUCAUUUCAUUUUGAGAAUUUUUCCUUGACAACCAUGGAGAGUAGAGUAAUUUUAAAAAAAAAAUUAAACAAGAGGUAACUAAGAACAAAAUAUCCUAGCAAUAUUUACAAUACUUACUUCCUCAACUCUCCCCCCAAUCAAGAUGAACAUUGUCCUCAAUGUUUCAAUUGCAAGUGAAAAUAAACGGAGGAGGUGAUACCUUUUGAGGCAAAUUUUUCAUAGUCAUGCAAACGUUUCGCAAAAGGGAGCGAAAAUGACUAGAGAAGUGAGAAAUGAAGUUGGGAUGUAUGCUAUAAAAAAAAAAAUGUACUUUUUUUUUUUGUAGAGAAAAAUGAGGGGUGUAGAUUGUUCGCAAAGUGGAAUUUUCAUAAAAUAGAAUUUUCGCAAAAUGGAAUUUUCGUAAAGUGGGAUUUUCGUAAAGUGGGAUUUUCGUAAAAUGGAAUUUUCGCAAAAUGGAAUUUUCGCAAAGUGGAAUUUUUGCAAAAUGGGGUUUUCGCAAAGUGGGGUUUUCAAAACUUGAUUCGCAAGGUGAACUUUGAGUUUGCAAACCCUAUGGAAAUUCACAUUUGAAGACCGAGAGUUGUAGUUUUCAAAAAUGAUCACAAAGGGUUUUCGCAGAGGAUUCGCAUACCCUGUGUUUUUUCACAUAGGGUGCGAAGUUAAAGACCGAGAGCUUGAAUUUUUCAAAAAUCAUCAGGAGGAUUUCGCAGAGGGUGUGAAAUUUUCGCAUGCUCUGCGAAAUGGCAGUAGCUCACAUAAUGUAAAGAGCACUUUUCGCACAACAUGCGAAAAUUUCGCAGGGAGGUAUGCGAAAUGCUCUGCUUCAAUUUUUUCCUCAGUUUUUCCUCUGCCGACGAAUCCUUAAGUGCCCUCCCCUACAAGUGAUUGAUUACUACUCAAAAAGGGCUAUUUGAUAGCUUGUAAUUAACUCUUUUAAACACUUUUGAGUAGUAAUUAUUGCCCUUUAACCCAAUUAACAUAUUAAGGACCUUUGCAAUCACUUCUAAUCACUUUGUGUAAGUUUUGGUGUUUUUGUUAGUAAUUUGAUCACCAAAGCAAUCCAAGAAGGAGGAGAAGUAAAGAGAGAAUCUACCUUGAAGCAUUCUUGAUGACAGUCAUUUCAGCCACUUUUGGAGUACUUCCUAAAGUCCAAUUUAUGCAUGCUUUAUGUCGUUUCGAAGAUCGGGAAGUCAACAAUCCAAUGCUUCAAACGGUUUGCAAAUCAGAGUUGAAAUGAAGAAGUUAGAGCCAAUGGAAGCAGAUCACUCCAAGCUGAAGGCCAAUUUCGCAGGGCUGCGAAAUCAGCCUUCGGCUGCGAAAUGAUUUCGCAGCCAUCUUGUUCGUCUACGAAAUUUCGCAGCCAUUUUGUGCGCCUGCGAAAUUCUCCUGAGUGCUUCCAGUUAUUUGCGACCAUCGUUUUUUGUUAUUUUGCCUCAGAUAUUUGUUGUCUAAAUUCCAAUUCUCUCCUUGUAAUCCACCAAUUAGAUGAUUCCUUAGUUGUUGAGCAAGGAUGCAGGGGUAAACAACCUGAUAUGUAUUGUUUUGUAUUUUUCACUUUAAAACAUCGGGGAACUUUCCCCAGGAGAACGGAUGUAAAUUUUACACUUAGCUAAAUACGAAGUAUCUUUUGCUUUCUUUUUCUCUCUACUAUUCCCUAUUUUCUCAGUAGCCAAACAUCCUUGGAGGAUGAAAUCCCCAAGGAUGAGAGGCUAAAACUUUUUAGUUUCUUGAAGUAAUGGAUGCCAUGUGAAGCUCCCGUGUCAGGAUGGAGAUUUCCAAGCCAUGAAUGUAAGUAGUUGAGCAUCAUAAAUGUUUUCAUUCAAAGUAAAGCUUUUAAUCCCUCUGACUUGCUUUGAAUGGCCAAUACUUGAUAACCUUUUGGUCUCAGUGGAUUCUUAUUGUUAGAUCCACUGACGUUCAUUAGUUAUCUCCUACGAGCCAUUGUAUUGCAAGUCGAGGAGAUGACCUAUAUCAUUAAAAGAGCAUUUAUGAGGUUCAGCUACCCUUUUUGUAAGUUUUGAAGGACUAAAACUCAGUUGUUAAACACAUACCGGUUCGGGAAGUAAGCAUCACCUUAGUUGCUUCCCCAACUCGAGGUGAAAAGUUCCAAAAUCUCCAUUUUUACACAUUGAGUUAAGCAUGGCUAUCCAAAGCUUUGAGAAACUUCUUUUUCCAUCUUUUAACCUAUUUGCAUGUUAGUUUAGUUUAAAACACUUUCAUCUUUUUAUGUUUUCAUCUUAACCUAAUUUUUAUUAAGAAAAGUUCACUCCAUCCUCCGAACUUCAUCAGUUAAAGUAAAAACCCUUCCCAGUGUUCGAUCCUAGAGCCACUAUGCUAUAGUAGCUUUGCUACUUUAGUGUAAGGACGUUAGGUAUAAAUUUUGUUGAUACCCUUACAUGCCAAGCUACCAAGAGUCGGGUUAUCAGUGAUCAUCAAAAACCUAAAUUAAAUCAAACUAAAAUGGAAUUCAAGCAAGAAAAUGAAAUAAAAACAAAUACAAAUACAAGAAAAAACAUGAAAUCAAAAACAAAAAACAAAAAUGGAUGAACUUAAUAAUUUUCAGAAAGAUUAAGUCCAUCCAGGAUCUAAUUUUUCAAGCCUGAGAGGGAUCAAGGAGGAUGAAUUCCUCCUUGUCUCGGGAAAAAUGCUCCAGAAAGGGCUUGAGACGAUGAAAGUUCGAUUGGUGUUGGCGUUGAGUAGCUCCACUACUCUAUUCGAAUACACUUGGUGGAUUGUGAAAGGACCUAACCACCUUGAUUUCAACUUGCCCGGAAAGAUAUGGAGCUUAGAGUCAUAAAGCAAGACUUUUUGUCCCUUUGAAAAGUUCUUUUGGGUCACCAACUGAUCAUGUCAUCUCUUCAACCUCUCUUUUGCAAUUUUGAAUUGAGGUAAGCAUCAUUUCGCAGUUCCUCCAACUCAUUGAGGUCUAAGAAUCUCUUCAACCCAACUUUGCUCAAAUCCAUGUUGAGUUUCUUGAUUGCCCACCAAGCCUUGUAUUCUAAUUCCACAGGGAGAUGGCAUGCUUUGCCAUAGACUAAGCGAUAAGGGGACAUCCCAAGAAUGGUCUUGUAAGCUGUUCUAUAAGCCCAUAGUGAAUCAAGGAGUUUGAUAGACCAAUAUGUUUUGUUCACAUUCACUACCUUUAUCAAUAUGUUCUUGAUCUCCCAGUUUUCCAACUCAACUUGCCCGCUAGUUUGAGGAUGGUAAGGCGUAGCUACCUUAUACUUCACCCCGUACUUGGCUAGAAGAGUUUCAAAAGGCUUGUUACAAAAAAUGAGUACCCUCAUCACUGAUUAUGGCUUUAGGCACUCCAAAUCUUGAGAAAAUGUUUUCCUUCAAGAACUUGAUAACCACCCUAUGGUCAUUGUGUUUGCAUGGAAUUGCUUCAACCCACUUAGAAACAUAAUUGAAUCUCACCAAGAUGUAGGAGUAGCCAAAUGACAUAGGAAAAGGUUCCAUGAAGUCAAUGCCCCAAACAUCAAAAAGAUCAACUAUCAGAAUAGGGUUCAAAGGCAUCAUAUUCCUUUGGGUCAACUUCCCAAGCCUUUAACAUCGAUCACAACCCUUGCACAUGGCAUGGGCAUCCUUGAAAAGUGAGGGCCAACAGAAACCCGAUUGCAAGACCCUCAUAGCUGUCUUUUGAGAAGCAAAGUGACCUCCACAAGCAUUCUCAUGGCAAUGAGAGAGAAUCCCCUGUUGCUCUUGUUCAGGAACACACUUUCUUAUUAUUUGAUCCAAAAAAUACUUGAAUAGAAAUGAUUCUUCCCAAUAGUAGGCAUGGAUCUUUACAAAGAAAUGUUUUCUAUCUUGUGUUUUCCACUCACUUGGAACUUCUCCAGUAACUAGGUAGUUUGCAAUAUGAGCAUACCACGGAGUUACUUCCACCAACAUGAGAGAUUCCUCUGGGAAGUCAUCAUUGAUGGGCAAACCAUGGGAAUUAUGUGCAAUUGCAAGCCUUGAAAGGUGGUCAGCUACCACAUUUUCUACUCCCUUCUUGUCUUUGAUUUGAAGAUUGAUCUCUUGAAGCAAGAGGGUUGAUUCCGUGCCCAACUGGUGUACCUUGAUUUCCGUCCUCUGAUGGGAGUAAUCAACAAAAUUUAUAACCUACUGCACCAUGUACUAGGAUAGCCUCGGCUAGCAUAGCAUAGUAGCUCUAAGAUUGUUCACUGGGAAGGGUUUUCAAUUAUAAAUGAUACUAAUUCAAAGUGAAUUGGUGCCUUUUCAUUUCAAGGUUAGCUUUAAAAGAAAACAUAAACUUGGGUUGGAAAAGGUUUGGUUUUAAGCUAACUAAAAAGAAAGUAAUGGGAAUUACUUAUAAAGAAAAGCGUUUCUUGGAGUUUUAGGAUCACCGGGGUCAGGCUCCUUAUACAAAAAAAAAGUUUUGGUCACUUUGAUUCUUUUCCUCGAAUUGGAGAAUUAACAUAUAGUUCAUUCUCCAACCGGUGUUGUACAGAUGCAGCCCAUUUAUGGAUUUCAGCAUUAAACCCCUCUCACUGAUGCAUCUCGCAAUGUCUUAUGCCUCCCACCUAGCAUUUGCCAUUCAAGGUGAUCAUUAACCUUGGACUUCCCUUCUCAAGCUCGCAAGAGGUAACUAAUGGAUGUCUCCUUAGAGUCCAAAAGCUUACCAAGUGUUGGCAAUUCUAGAAAAUCCUACCUUCAAGUCACCUCCCAAAGGCUUGCAAGAGAUAAACUAGUGAAUCUCCAUGGACGGAGAUCACUUGCCUUACCAAGUGUUGGCCCAGGUGAAUUGAAGGCAUUUUAAGUUAACUAAAAAGAUAAAAACCAUUAACGGGUUACAUUUCCUCUUCAUUUACAACUGAAACCACAAAACUCUAAAUUCAUGCAUUUGGAAACUUACCCAGCUACCUUAGUCCAAGAGACACAAAGUCUAGCCACUCAUUCUUUGAGGAAACAUCCUCAGAGCUUGUUUGGCUAGUAAGAAAAAUACAAUCAAAAUGAGAAGGUAAGGCAGAGCAAAGCUCUGUAUUUUACUUCCUUGAAAAACUAUACAAAAAGUUGGUUUUUCUCUGAGAACAGGCUCCCGAGAUAUCACUGAUAUGAAAAUUACAAUAAUAAUAUAUACAUGGCUAUUCACCCUUUUUGUCUUUCUUAGCAACUAAGGAAUCCUAUAAUUGGUGGGUUACAAGGAGAAAAUGGGGAUUUGGACAUCAAAUAUCUGAAGCAAAAUAUCCAAAAGUGUCGAUCACAAAUAUCUGGAAGCACUCAAGAGAAUUUCGCAGACGUACAAGAUGGCUGAGAAAUUUCGCAGCCAAAGGCUGAUUUCGUAGAGGCUUUCCUUAGGCUGCGAAAUUGGCCUUCAGCUUGGUGUGAUCGGCUUCCAAUGGUUCUAACUUCUUCAUUUCAACUCUGAUUCAUGUACCAUUUAAAGCUUUGGAUUGCUGACUUCCCGAGCUUCGAAACGACAUAUGGUGUAUAUCAAAUGGACUCUAGAAAGUGCUUCAAAAGUGUCAAAUAGUUGAUGUCCUCUUGCAUUAUUCAUGUUACUUUCAUCCUUGCAUUCUUGAUUUGUUUUUGGCAAAGGAUUACAAAGCUUCAAAGCUUGAAUUCUUCAUGUUAAUGAGCUUCCAAUUGCUUUGCCAUGGAUUCCAUAGAACUCUCCUUAGUCUUGGAUUGCUUUGGUGAUCAAAAUACUAUCAAAAACACCAAAACUUAAACUUUUUGAUUAGAAAUGAUUGCAAAGGUACUUAAUAUGUUAAUUGAGUUAAAAGGUAAUAACUACUACUCAAAAGUGUUUAAAAGAGUUAAUUACAAGCUAUCAAUUAGUACUUUUUGAGUAGUAAUCACUCCCCCCAACUGACAUAUUGCUAGUCCCUUAGCAAAAAAUGAGAGAAAAAGAAAAUUAAAAAGUAAAAAAAAUACUAUAAUUUACAACGUCAUGCUGAUCACUUCAAAAAAUUUUAAGUGGCAUGAUGAUCAAGCUCUCUCAUGGAACAUUAAAGAAAUGAAACUCAAAUUUCAGCAAGAGUUAUCACGUAUGUUUUCUAAUCAUAAUUCCAACAAGAGAAGGCAUUAUGCAAAUUGAAGCUUUAAAAUCAUUUCCAUUUCCAAAUGACCAACCCUUACUCUUCCACUAAAAUCUAAGUGUUACUUGAUAGUUUCCGAAUAUAGUAUGCUAAACUAAUCUCUCUCCCCAAUCUAGUUCUUUUUCAACACUUAGCAAACUGACCAAAUUCAAUAGGCUAAGAACACACCCUUUUAUUUAUUUAUUUAUUUUUAUUUUUUUUUUCAGCGUAGGAGUACAAGGCUUGAAGGUAUUCUUUUUCUAAAUUGUCCAUGUAGCGGGGGUCCAUCGAUGACUCCCAACCAAUUAAGGUUUAGGGCAUCAAGCUUUAAGGAUCUUUCAACCACUAACUCCUCGAAUUUUACCUCGAACUUUUGAGAGUGAAUUUUUAAUACCCAAGCACCUACAGUAUGUUAAACUCCACCUAUUCACCCUUGUAACGAGCAUUGAGGUCGGUGACUCCCAACCAAUUAAGGCUUAGGGCACCAGGUUUUAAAGAUUUUCACCAUAUACCCCUCAGACCUUGCUCGGGUUUCAAGGCAAGCAAACAUUUUCUUUUAAAGGCUCAUUGGCCUUUCAUAAGGUGUCUCAACACUAUUAAAUAAGGUAAAAAAUACCAAGUCUAAAUUUUCCUAAGUCAAGAGGGAAAUAGUUUUUCAUCUUAUAGUCGAAAUCUAUUGUGCACAGUGUGUGAAUAGCUUAAAGUGGAAGAACUAAGGUUGAAUUCAAUAGAAGUUCAACAAUUCAUCAACUUUAAUAAGCAUAAUACAAACUCUAAGUCAAGUAAACAAAAAUUCGAUUUCUCUUAUGUUAAUUUGAGAAUUUUUCUUUAAUAACCAUGGAGAAUAGAAUAAAAACUUUAAAAAUUUAAAAUUAAGCAAAAAGCAACUAAAUUAUCAAAAUAACUUAGCAUUAAUCACAAAACUUCCUUCCUCAACUCUCCCCUCAACCAAGCUGAACAUUGUCCUCAAUGUGAGAAAAGCGAUUGAACAGUAGGGAGGAAGUGGUGCCUCCUUAGUGGUAUGAAGUUCGGGUAGAAUAGGAGAACCCACAUGUUUCAUAAAACAACAAAAGAUAUCAGUAGAGGAAUUAAAAUAAUGCUAAAAAUGCUAACAAAUUGAUAGACUUGUAUUACUUGAAGAAAGUACAAGAUGGCUAACAAGUAAUACAACCAAUCCCAAUAUAUAAUAUCAAAAGCAUGGGAGUACAAUUUCUAUUUUAGUAAAAAAAAAAAAUACAUAAAGAAAAUACAUAAAGUAAAGUAUGUAAAUGAUCAGAUAGGGGGAGGGUGAUGAUGGCUCAGGUGGAUGUCUCUACAUCUCCUGCAGUCGGCGGCUCAGUAUAGGGCUCUGUGGGCUCUGAAAUGAUAGGAUUGGGGUACUCAGAAGCUGAUGGAAUACCCAGAUAGUGCUGAAUCUGCCUCAUAAUGGCAGUAUGCUGAGUCUGGGUGGCCAAAAUCUGCUCCUGAUGGGCACGAAAAGCUACCAUCUCCUAAGUAAGGAUGUUUUGAGAUGUGGUCAAUGUCUACAAAGUGUGACAAAGACCUCUAUACUCGGACAUGGAUAUAGCAAUCCUAGGCUCAGAUGACGAAGUGGGCUCUGAUGUAGAUGGUAUAACAGGAGGAGUCUGUGGUGUGGCAAGAGGAGCAGAGGGUGCAACCUUAGGUAUAGGCUCCUCAGGUUGUGGAAUGUCUGGAUGUUCUGCUCCAGCUGGGGAUCCAGGCUCUGCACUAUAUGCUGUCAUAUUUGACCAUUUAUCAAGAGUGAAUAUCUCUCGGCAAAUGCGUUUAUGCUCAUGGUGAGGCUCAGAUGGAUAGCCCAAAUGCUUGAAAAUCUGGCAAAGCAAUCUCGGGAAAAGAAGUGGAAUAGCAUGUGCUUGGAGCAGCUUCUUCUUGUGAACCUUCUCUUCAAAGUAGAGAAGAACAGCCAUAAUCAGAUGAUGAGGGCCAAAGAAGAAUCCCUCAGAUAUCCUAAACAGGGUCUCCAGCAAAACUCCUCUCCUCUGCACCCAAUGCUGAAGUGGAUAAAUGUUAUGGCGCAGGAGUGCAUCGAUGAAGAACAUGCUGGGAGGGAGCUCCUUCCUCAACAGAUACUGAUGUGAGGAUGCUCCUCUGGAUAGGAUAUGAACUAUGUCACUCUGAGCCGGAUGAGUCCAUACUUGAAAAUCCUCUGGAUGGGCUGGCUCGUAUGGAAUAUGCAGUGCCUGUGCUAUAUGUCGAGCUCUUAGAAUACCAUGAUGUCCGUCAAUGGUGAAGUGAAUGACAGUAGGAUCUCUGACCUGGUGUGUGGUCAUGGACUGAUAGAAGUCCAUGACUACACGGGCAUAGAAAAAAUCCCUAGGAGUCAGCAAAUGCUCCAUAUGAUACCUGUGUAGCAGAUGAAAGGAGUCCCGGAGCUCAGGCUAAAGUUUGAAAGUGGCUGUGUCAAAACACAGCUCAGAGUGAAAUGGUCGAGCCCUGCAAUCUAGAUUACCCUCAAUGGGCGGCUGAGCGUUCAUGGGACGCCUGAUAAUCACCUCAGGAGUCAUGCCUGAGGGAAUCUGAGAUUCUAUAGGUGGCGACUGAGACUGAUGAGGCUCCAACAGAGGCUCCGGAGACGGCUCCGUUAAGUCAAUUGGCUCUGAAUCCUCUACCCUGGAUUUUUUCAUUGGUGGACGGCCACCUGACCUUGUCUGAUAUCGUCUGACCGGUGGACUUAUCGGCAAGGGUUCAACCGGAGGUGGAGCGACUACUUGACGCGGAGGCUGGGAUGUGGAUCCUUGAACAGGGGUCUCUUUUGCGGCUUUCUUGCGGCCGGACGGGGAUGAGGACUUUGCUCCUCUGGUUCUUGCCAUGGCGAAUUGAAGAAAAUGGUUGGAGACACUUGCGGCUUGGGCUCAGACGAGAGAGAGCAAAUGAACGGUUGCUCUGGCUUUCUUUCUCUUUAGUAUCUUUUUGCAGCUCAAAUGACCGGUUUUUACAAAAUAUGGAAUUUAUAAGGUUCAAAAAAUGGAUACCAAGGGUCGUUUUAAUUUUUCGCAGAGGAGGGUCGAUUUCGCAAUGGAGGGGCUUUUUCGUAGCGAAGGGCCGAUUUCGUAGCCCAUUUCGCAACUGCGAAAUGAGGCUACUGUGCUACGAAAUGGCACUCGUGUGCCAAAGGGGUGUUUCGCAGCUGCGAAAAUUUUCGCAGAGGAGGGCAUGGGGCUGCGAAAUGAAUUUCGCAGCCGAUGGGCGAUUUCACAGCGGACCUUUUGGGGCUGCAAAAUCAUUUCGCAGGGGCCCCCUUUUGGCUGCGAAAUUUCGUAAACCACUACUUUUCCCUUUCUUUUAAAUUCCUUUUUGCUCCCAACGACCUUCCUUCGAUUUCUUUGCAAUUCCUCCUACAUGAGAUCAUUCAAAAAGAUUUAAUUACAUACAAAUACACAACUUAAGAUCAAAAAUUAAAAUUAAAAUAAUUAAUAAAGCUUUUAAAUUAACAAAAUUAAACAAAAAUAUGGACUUUGGUGAAACCAAGUCCAUCUAACCCUUGUCUGAUUAGGCUUUAUGUGGCUUAAGGAGGUUGAUUUCCUCAUUUUCUUUCUUGAAUGGCUCAAUGAAUGGCUUGAGACGAUGACCAUUGACCUUGAAAGUGUCAAUGCUGUUGGAAUUCAAUAAUUCCACCACUCCAUUCAAGCGCACUUGGUGAAUAAUGAAAGGGCCUAUUCACCUUGACUUGAGCUUCCCUGGAAAGAUGUGGAGCCUUGAAUCAUAGAGUAAGACUCUUUGUCCUUUAUGGAAUUCUUUAUUGGAGAUUAAUUGAUCAUGCCACCUCUUCAUCCUCUGUUUUGCAACUUUGGAAUUGAUGUAAGCAUCAUUUCUUAAUUCCUCCAUCUCAUUAAGGUCUAAGCACCUAUUUGCCCCGGUUCUGAUCAAGUCCAUGUUUAACUUCUUGAUUGCCCACCAAGCUUUAUAUUCAACUUCCACAGGGAGAUGGCAUGCUUUGCCAUAGACUAGGCGAUAAGGAGACAUACCAAGAAUAGUCUUGUAAGCUGUUCUAUAUGCCCAUAGUGAAUCAUGAAGCUUAAUAGACCAAUCUCUUCUACUUGUGAUCACCACCUUCAUCAAUAUAUUUUUGAUUUCCCUGUUUGCUAGCUCCACUUGAUCGGAUGUCUGAGGGUGAUAAGGUGUAGCUACCUUAUGCUUCACUCCAUACUUGGCUAAUAAGGCUUCAAAAGGUCUAUUGCAAAAAUGAGUACCUCCAUCACUGAUUAUGGCCUUGGGCACCCCAAAUCUUGAAAAAAUGUUCUCUUUGAGAAACUUGAGAACCACCUUGUGAUCAUUAUGUUUACAGGGGAUUGCCUCAACCCAUUUAGAAACAUAGUCCACCCCCACCAAGAUAUAAGAGUUACCAAAAAACAUUGGGAAAUGGCCCAUGAAAUCAAUGCCCCAAACAUCAAAGAGAUCAACUAUUAGAAUGGGGUUCAUAGGCAUUUGAUUCCUUCUUGUUAGCUUUCCAAGCCUUUGGCAUCUAUCACAGCUCCUACACAUGAUGUGGGCAUAUUUGAAAAGUGAUGGCCAAGUAAACCCUGAUUGCAACACCUUCAUGGUUGUUUUCUGAGAGGCAAAGUGGGCUCCACAUGCACUUUCAUAACAAUGGCUGAGGAUUCCUUGUUGCUCUUCUUCAGGAACACACUUCCGUAUUAUUUGAUCUACACAAUACUUGAAAAGGAAAGGCUCCUCCCAAUAAUAAGCAUGAAUCUUUGCAAAGAAGUGCUUCUUGUCUUGUGCUUUCCACUCACUUGGAACAUCACCAGUAACUAGAUAGUUAGCAAUAUGAGUAUACCAAGGAGUUUUUACUAGCAACAUGAGUGAUUCCUCAGGAAAAUCAUCAUUAAUAGGUAAGACAUGGGAAUUGUGUGCUAUAGCCAACCUUGAAAGGUGGUCAGCUACCACAUUUUCCACUCCUUUCUUGUCUCUGAUCUGGAGAUCGAACUCUUGUAGUAAGAGAAUCCAUCUAAUCAACCUUGCUUUAGCAUCUUGUUUUGUCAAUAAAUACUUCAAGGCUGAAUGGUCAAUGAAAACAAUGAUGAAAGACCCUACUAGAUAAGCACGAAACUUGUCUAAGGCAAACACCAUGACUAAAAAUUCUUUCUCUGUAGUUGUGUAGUUUCUUUGAGCUUCGUUCAAGGUUUUGCUUGCAUAGUAGAUCACAUAGGGCUUCCCAUCUUCUCUUUGGCCAAGCACAGCUCCUAUAGCAAAGUCACUGGCAUCACACAUUAUUUCAAAGGGUAGUUGCCAGUUAGGAGCCCUCACUAUUGGAGUUGUUGUUAAGAAUUGCUUCAGUUGAUCAAAGCUCUUUUGACAUCUUUCAUCCCAUAUAAAUUUAGCAUCCUUAGUCAAAAUUUCACAAAGAGGUUUUGAAAGAUUAGAGAAAUCUUUUAUAAAUCUCCUAUAGAACCCUGCAUGGCCAAGGAAUUGCCUCACUCCUUUUACAGUUGUUGGGGACAACAAUUUGAAAAUAAGUUCCACCUUUGCUUUAUCAACUUCAAUGCCUUUCUUGGAGAUGAUAUGGCCAAGGACAAUUCCCUGACGUACCAUAAAAUGGCAUUUCUCCCAGUUGAGCACCAAGUCCUUCUCAAUGCAUCUGUUAAGAACCGCUUCCAAAUUGACUAAGCAUUCUUCAAAUGUACCUCCAUAUACGGUGAUGUCAUCCAUGAAAACCUCCAUAAUUUGCUCCACCAUAUCACUGAAGAUACUCAAUAUACAUCUCUGGAAUGUUGUGGGUGCAUUGCAUAAACCAAAAGACAUUCUUCUGUAAGCAUAUGUUCCAAAUGGACAUGUGAAAGUGGUCUUCUCCUGAUCUUCAACAUCAAUUUCAAUUUGAAAAUAUCCGGAGUACACAUCUAAGAAACAAUAGAAAGGAUGGCUAGAGACUCUCUCCAAAACUUGAUCAAUAAAUGGCAAUGGAAAAUGAUCUUUCCUUGUCACAACAUUCAAUUUUCUAUAAUCAAUACACACCCUCCAACCUGAAGUGAGGCGUGUAGUAAUUUCUUCUCCUCUUUCAUUUUGAACCAUAGUAAUCCCUGACUUCUUUGGUACCACUUGAGUAGGACUCACCCAAGGGCUGUCAGAUAUGGGGUAGAUAAUACCUGCUUGAAGUAGCUUUAACACUUCCACUCGCACCACCUCUUGCAAAUGAGGAUUCAAUCUUCUUUAAGGUUGACGAAUUGGUUUGGAUUCUUCCUCCAUAUAUAUAUGAUGUGUACAAACCAAAGGACUAAUGCCUUUCAAGUCAGAUAUUUGCCAUCCUAUUGCUUUCUUGCACCUCUUGAGAACUUCAAGUAGACACUUUUCCUGAUGAUUAGUAAGAGAUGAAGAUAUAACAACAGGGCAUUGUUUAUUCUCUUCUAGGUAUGUAUAUUUCAACUUCAUGGGCAGAGGCUUCAAAUUAAGCUUUGGGGUUUCUUUUUUAUCAGCUUCUUGUGCCUCCUCUUUAUUGAACAAAGGUAGAAUCUCUUAUCUCCUUCUCCAACCUUGUAGAGUAGCUAGCACAUCAGAGGGUUUAGGCAACCCUUCUUCAAGAUCCCCAAGACUUUCAUUUAAUUUGUCUUGCAUAUUCUGAUUACAGUGCUCCUCCAUUAGAGUGUCAAUAAUGCAUACCUCCUCGAGACCUUCUUCUUUUUCUGGAGUGAUUUGCUUUUUAGACAUAUAAAAGAUAUUGAGCUCAAGUGUCAUGUUGCCAAAAGUGAGUUGCAUGAGUCCAUUCCUACAGUUAAUGAUUGCAUUUGACAUAGCAAGGAAUGACCUUCCAAGGAUGAUAGGAACUGAAUUUGCUUCCUUAACAGUAGGAUCUACUAGAUAGUAGAAAUUGUCAACUUGAACUAAGACAUCUUCAAUUACCCCCCUUGGAAUUUUCACUGAUCUAUCUGCUAGAGAUAGAGUGAUUGAUGUUGGCUUCAAUUCACCAAGUCCCAAUUGCUUGUAGACAGAGUAUGGAAGCAAAUUCACACUUGCUCCCAAGUCUAACAAAGCUUUCUCCACUACCUUUCCUCCAAUCAUGACGGGAAUGGUAGGACAACCCGGAUCUUUGUACUUCAAAGGAGACUUGCAUUGUAUAAUAGCACUUACUUGCUUAGUCAAGAAGGUUUUCUUGUUCACAUUCAACCCUCUUUUGAUAGUACACAAAUCCUUUAGGAAUUUUGCAUAUGUUGGAACUUGUUUAAUCAUAUCUAGCAAUGGAAUAUUGACUUUCACUUGUCUCAAUACUUCAAGAAUUUCUGAUGCAUUUCUAAUCCCCUUUUUCCCAUGUAAAGCUUGAGGAAAAGGUGGAGAGGUGUGCUUCUUCAGCAUUUCUUCCUUAAGAAGUAUCUUCUCCGGAUUUGUAUUCACUGUUGAAUCAUGGUCCUCUUUCUUUUCACUGAUAUCUUUCUUCUUUCCUUUGAUCUCCUCCCUCUUCUUUGUCUCUUCUUCUUCUACCUCUUCAUUGUCUCUUCUUCUUCUACCUCUUCAUGUGGCUUGGGUGUUGGCAUCUCAACCUUUUUACCACUCCUUAGAGUGAUCAAAGCUUUAACAUCUCUCACCUGUGAGGAUUCUCCCUCAUGAGUUUCCACUUCAUGGAUACCCUUGGGGUUUUGGUGAGGUUGAGAAGGAAAUCUACCCUUCUCUUGCAUUGUGUUCAAGUUAGUGAGCCUUGAGAUUGAGUAUUGGAGAUUAUCUAUCUUUUGAGAUAAGUCAUUUUGCAUCCCAUCCAUCAUUUUAUUCAAAGUAUUCUUUACACUGUCAAUUCUUUGACUGAGUUGAGCAUUGAUGGCUUUUUGAUCUCUAACAAAAUCUCCCACAACCUUGCUGAGAUUUACAAUUGCUUGUUCAAGACUUGAAGAUUGUUGAGAUGGUUGAGCCGAUUGUUGGUACUGAGGUGCUCUUGACUUCCAUGAGAAAUUUGGAUGAUUCCUCCAACUUGAGUUGUAAGUAUUUCCAUACGGAGCAUUGUUAUUGGGCUUAAAUUGUCCAACAACGUUUGCUUGAUCUCCAAACAUUUCCCUUGCAACUAGAAUUGUAGGGCAUUCCUCCACCAAGUGUUCAUAAGAUUGACAAUAGGACAUGGCUUUACUUGCACUGGUGAUUCAGCAUCAGCUUGCACUUCACACAUCUUUUUUAGUUCUGGCUCCUCCAAUCUUCUUGUCAUAGCCGCAACCUUUGCUUUCAUAUCAUCAUCUUCAUUCAAGGUAUACAUCCCAGCCUUAGCAUUAAAAGCACUCGGUUGAGACUUCAUCUUUCCCACUUCUCCUUUGUUUGGUUCAUCCCAUCCCCUUGAAACUUCAGCCACAUAAUUCAAGAAAUCCAUCACUUCCUCCAGAUUUUUGCUCAUGAAAUCUCCUCCACACAUUGUCUCGAGGAGUUGCUUCAUUGAGGAAGACAUCCCAUCAUAGAAAUAGCUCACCAAUAGCCAUGUAUCAAAACCAUGAUGAGGGCAAGCAUUGAUGGCUUCCAUGUAUCUUUCCCAACACUCAUAGAAUUUCUCAUUCUUUUUAGUUGAGAAGUUUGAAAUUUGCCUUUUCAAGCCAUUUGUUCUGUGAGUAGGAAAAAAUUUCUUAAGGAAUUCAGCUUGUAAAUCAGUCCAAGUAUGGAUACUAUUUGGCCUUAAAGAAUUAAGCUAAAUUUUGGCUUUAUCCUUUAAAGUAAAAGGAAAUAGCUUAAGCCUCAUUAAGUUAAUUGAAGCUCCUCCCUCUUGGAAUGUAUUACAAACAUCUUCAAAUUCCUUGAUAUGUGCAUAGGGAUUCUCACUUUCCAUCCCAUGGAAAGUUGGUAGAAAUGGAACAAUAUGCGGUCUGAUCACUAGCUGCUCUGUAGGGGGCAUUAUACAUGAUGGUGCACUCAUAUGAGGUGGAUGCAUGCGGUCCCUCAUUGAUCUGAAAGCAUUGGGAUUGUCCUGGUGACCAUGGUGACUAUGCUGAUCUUCAGGUGUAGCUUCCAUGAUAUUCAAGCUCAAUUCCAAUUCCUUGUUAUGAGGUGUAUCACGUUUAACAAGCCUUCCUCCACUGUCUCGUAUCCAAUUUGGCAUACACAACUAGUAUCAACUGUAACUAUAAAAAAAACAAAAGAAAACAAGACUACAAAAAGACUAAAAUAAAGUAAAUCUGAAUUAAAAGAUGUAUUCAAAUAUGAACAAGUAAAGAAAUAAUAAAAAAAAAUAGUAAGAUGAAAGAAAAGUUACCAAACUUGUGAUGAAAAUCACAAGUACUCUAAAAUAGUAUCACUGUGAAAUUGGCACCUUCCCCGGCAACGACGCCAUUUGAUUUCGUGCCCAGCUGGUAUACCUUGAUUUUGGUCCUCUGAUGGGAGUAAUCAACAAAAUUUAUAACCUAUUACACCAUGUACUAGGAUAGCCUCGGCUAGCAUAUCAUAGUAGCUCUAGGAUCGUUCACUAGGAAGGGUUUUCAAUUAUAAAUGAUACCAAUUCAAAGUGAAUUGGUGCCUUUUCAUUUCAAGGUUAGCUUUAAAAGAAAACAUAAACUUGGGUUGGAAAAGGUUUGGUUUUAAGCUAAUUAAAAAGAAAGUAAUGGGAAUUACUUAUAAAGAAAAGCGUUUCUUGGAGUUUUAGGAUCACCAGGGUUAGGCUCCUUAUACAAAAACAGAGUUUUGGUCACUUUGAUUCUUUUCCUCGCAUUGGAGAAUUAACAUAUAGUUCAUUCUCCAACCGGUGUUGUACAGAUGCAGCCCAUUUAUGGAUUUUAGCAUUAAAUCCCUCUCACUGAUGCAUCUCGCAAUGGCUCAUGCCUCUCACCUAGCAUUUUCCAUUCAAGGUGAUCAUUAACCUUGGACUUCCCUUCUCAAGCUCACAAGAGGUAACUAAUGGAUGUCUCCUUAGAGUCUAAAAGCUUACCAAGUGUUGGCAAUUCUAGAAAAUCCUACCUUCAAGUCACCUCCCAAAGGCUCGCAAGAGAUAAACUAGUGAAUCUCCAUGGACGGAGAUCACUUGCCUUACCAAGUGUUGGCCCAUGUGAAUUGAAGGCGUUUUAAGUUAACUAAAAAGAUAAAAACCAUUAACGGGUUACACUUCCUCUUCAUUUACAGCUGAAACCACAAAACUCUAAAUUCGUGCAUUUGGAAACUUACCCGGCUACCUUAGCUCCAAGAGACACAAAGUCUAGCCACUCAUUCUCUGAGGAAACAUCCUCAGAGCUUGUUUGGCUAGUAAGAAAAAUACAAUCAAAAUGAGAAGGUAAGGCAGAGCAAAGCUCUGCAUUUUACUUCCUUGAAAAACUAUACAAAAAGUUGGUUUUUCUCUGAGAACAGGCUCUCAAGAUAUCAUUGAUAUGAAAAUUACAAGAAUAAUAUAUACAUGGUUAUUCACCCUUUUUGUCUUUCUUAGCAACUAAGGAAUCCUAUAAUUGGUGAGUUACAAGGAGAAAAUGGGGAUUUAGAUAUCAAAUAUCUGAAGCAAAAUAUCCAAAAGUGUUCGCAAAUAUCUGGAAGCACUCAGGAGAAUUUCACAGACGUACAAGAUGGCUGUGAAAUUUCGCAGCCAAAGGCUGAUUUCGCAGAGGCUUUCCUUAGGCUGCGAAAUUGGCCUUCAGCUUGGUGUGAUCAGCUUCCAAUGGCUCUAACUUCUUCAUUUCAACUCCGAUUCAUGUACUGUUUGAAGCGUUGGAUUGCUAACUUCCAGAGCUUCGAAACGACAUAUGGUAUGCAUCAAAUAGGCUCUGGAAAGUGCUUCAAAAGUGUCAAACAGUUGAUGUCCUCUUGCAUUCUUCAUGUUACUUUCAUCCUUGCAUUCUUGAUUUGUUUUUGGCAAAGGACUACAAAGCUUCAAAGCUUGAAUUCUUCAUGUUAAUGAGCUUCCAAUUGCUUUGCCAUGGAUUCCAUGGAACUCUCCUUAGUCUUGGAUUGCUUUGGUGAUCAAAAUACUAUCAAAAGCACCAAAACUUACACAAUUUGAUUAGAAAUGAUUGCAAAGGUACUUAAUAUGUUAAUUGAGUUAAAAGGUAAUAACUACUACUCAAAAGUGUUUAAAAGAGUUAAUUACAAGCUAUCAAUUAGUACUUUUUGAGUAGUAAUCAAGGGUCCACCUAAUCAGUCUUGCCUUGGCAUCUUGCUUGGUCAACAAAUACUUCAAAGCAGAGUGAUUGGUUAAUACCACUAUGAAAGACCCCACCAUGUAAGCACGAAAUUUGUCCAAGGCAAAAACUACCGCUAACAAUUCCUUCUCGGUGGUUGUGUAGUUUCUUUGCACCUCAUUGAGUGUCUUACUGGCAUAAUAGAUCAUAUAGGGUUUUCUAUCUUCUCUUUGGCCCAACACAGCUCCAAUAGCAAAAUCACUAGCAUCGCACAUUACCUCAAAAGGUAAUUGCUAGUUAGGAGCUUGCACAAUGGGUGUUGUUGUUAGAAAUGACUUUAAUUGCUAAAAAAUUCUUUGAAAUCUUUCAUCCCAUAUGAAUUUGGCAUCCUUGACCAAUAGUUCACAAAGAGGACUUGCAAGCUUUGAAAAGUCCUUGAUAAACCUCCUAUAGAACCCGACAUGUCCAAGGAAUUGCCUUACUCCCUUGACAUUGGUGAGGGAUGGCAACUUGACAAUGAGUUCAACUUUUGCUUUAUCAACUUCAAUUCCCUCCUUAUAGAUGAUAUGCUCGAGAACAAUCCCUUGUUGUACCAUGAAAUGGCACUUCUCCCAGUUAAGCACCGAGUCUUUUUCAAUGCACCGAUUUAGAACAACUUCUAAGUUUACCAAGCAAUCCUCAAAUGCACUUCCAUAAACGGUGAUAUCGUCCAUAAAGACUUCCAAAAUUCGCUCCACCAUAUCACUAAAGAUGCUUAGCAUGCAUCUUUGGAAAGUUGUGGGUGCAUUGCAUAAACCAAAAGGCAUUCUCCUAUAUACAAAUGUACUAAAGGGGCAUGUGAAAGUGGUCUUCUGUUGAUCUUCCAAAUCAAUCUCUAUUUGAAAGUAGCCAGAGUGGCCAUCCAAAAAACAGUAGAAAGGAUGCCCAGAAACCCUUUCAAGCACUUGGUCAAUAAAAGGCAACGGGAAAUGGUCCUUCCUUGUCACCGCAUUCAAUUUCCUGUAAUUGAUACACACCCUCCAACCAAUAGUAAGGCGUGUGGAGACAUCUUCUCCCAUAUCAUUCCGCACCACCGUGAUCCCAGACUUCUUUGGGACAACCUGGGUUGGACUCACCCAUAAGCUAUCUGAUAUGGGAUAAAUAAUACCGGCUUGAAGUAGCUUCAAAACUUCAUCUCGCACCACCUCUUGCAUGUGAGGGUUCAACCUUCUCUACAGUUGGCGAAUUGGCUUUGCUUCCUCCUCCAUAUAGAUAUGAUGGGUGCACACCAAAGGGUUGAUCCCUUUCAAGUCUGAAAUUUUCCACCCAAUGGCCUUCUUACAUCUUCUAAGGACUUCAAUUAGACAAUCCUCUUGAUGAAUGGUGAGAGCUGAAGAGAUCACCAUAGGGCACUGCUUGUCUUCCUCCAAGUACGCGUAUUUCAACCCAGUAGGAAGAAGCUUAAGAGUAAGCUUUGAGGGCUCCUCCUUACCAACUUUGUGCGACUCCUCAUCAUUGAAUAAAGGUAGAAUCUUUUCCCUCUUCCUCUAAUGAGACAUGGUAGUUAGCAAAUCUGAGGGUUCAGGUAACCCUUCAUCAAGAUCCCUAAGACUCUCAAUCAAAUGUUCCUCCAUGCUCUGUUCACAAUGCUCCUUAACCAAAGUGUCAAUCAUGCACACUUCCUCUGACCUUUCCUCUUCUACCGGAUGGAGAUGCUUCUUGCACAAAUGGAAGAUGUUUAGCUCCAAGGUCAUGUUGCCAAACGUGAGUUGCAUAAUUCCAUUCCUACAAUUGAUGAUUGCAUUAGAUGUAGUGAGGAAUGGUCUUCCAAGUAUGAUUGGCACAUAGUUUUUCCUCGUGACAACUGGAUCAGUAUCAAGAACAACAAAAUCUACUGGAUAGUAGAAUUUGUCAACUUGUACUAAGACAUCCUCAAUUAUCCCCCUUGGGAUCUUCACUGAUCUAUUAGCUAGGGAGAGAGUAAUGGAUGUAGGCUUCAACCCCCCAAGUCCCAACUACUUGUAAACCGAAUAGGGUAGCAAAUUCACACUUGCUCCCAAGUCUAGAAGAGCUUUCUCCACACAUGUCCCUCUAAUAUUUACUGAAAUGGUGGGGCAUCCUGGAUCUUUAUACUUCACUGGAGAUUUGUACUGGAUGAUAACACUUACUUGUUCAGUUAAGAAGGUUUUCUUGGUCACAUUUAACCCUCUCUUUACAAUGCACAAGUCCUUCAAGAAUUCGGCAUAAGUUGGAACUUGCUUGAUCAUGUCAAGUAAAGGAAUGUUGACCUUCAGUUACCUCAACACUUCAAAAUUUUAUGAUGUAUUCUUGGUUCCCUUCUUACCAUACAAAGCUUGAGGGAAAGGUGGAGGCAUGUGCUUCUUCAUCAUAUCUUCCUUGAUGACUAUCCUUGGUUCUUCAUCCACACUUGAAUCAUGGUCACCUUCAUCUGACUUCUUCUCACCCAUGUUUUUCUCUGAUUCACUUCCUUCACCAUGCUUCAGCUUGGGUGGGGGUUGAACAACCUCCUUACCACUCCUAAGAGUGAUAACUACUUUGACUUCCCUCACCUUUGAAGAUUCUCCCUCUUAAGCUUCUACUUCAUGAAUACCCUUUGGAUUUUGACGAGGUUGAGAAGGAAACUUUCCUUUCUCUUACACAGUAUUGAGGUUGGUGAGCCUUGAGAUGGAAUAUUGAACAUUAUCUAUCUUCUGAGAUAGAUCAUUUUGCAUCACAUCCAUCCUCUUAUUCAAUGUACUCUCCAUUCUAUCAAUUUUCUGAUUCAAUUGAGAGUUGAUUGACUUUUGCUCCCCCACAAAGUCUCCCACAACCUUGCUAAGAUUCACAAUGGCUUGUUCAAGGUUUGAAGCUUGUUGAGGUGCUUGAGCUGGUGGUGUAUACUGAGGUGGCCUUGGCUUCCAUGAGAAAUUUGAAUGGUUCCUCCAAUUAGAAUUGUAGAUGCUUCCAUAAGGAGCAUAGUUGUUAGGCUUGAAUUGGACAACCACAUUUGCUUGAUCACCAAACAUUUCUCUCACUGUUGGAAUGGUUGGGCACUUCUCCACCAAGUGCUCAUAAGACUGACAUAUGGAACAAGGUGUAGCUUGCACUCGUGUCUCGGAAAUGACCUGUACUUCUUGUACUUUCUUCAGUUCUAGCUCUUCCAAUCUCCUUCCCAUAGUUGCAAAUUUUGUUUUCAUGUCCAUGUCUUCACUCAACACAUACAUUCCACCCUUAGCAUUGGAAUGAGACUUCAUCCUCCCCACAUCUCUAGUAUUCGGUUCAUCCCAUCCUCUUGAAACUUCAGAAACAUAGCUCAAGAGUCCAUAGCUUCCUCCGGAUUCUUACUCAUGAAGUCUCCUCCACACAUGGUCUCUAGGAGUUGCUUCAUACAGGAAGACAUACCAUCAUAGAAAUAACUCACUAAGAGCCAUGUAUCAAAGCCAUGGUGAGGAAAAGCGUUGAUAGUUUCCAUGUACCUCUCCCAACACUCAUAGAAUUUCUCAUUCUCCUUAGCUAAGAAGUUUGAAAUUUGCCUUUUCAAGCCAUUGGUCCUAUGAGUAGGGAAGAACUUCUUGAGAAACUCAGCUUGUAAAUCAGUCCACCUUCUGAUACUCCUCGACCUUAAAGAAUUAAGCUAAACCUUGGCCUUAUCCUUUAAGGUGAAAGGGAAUAGCUUGAGUCUCAUCAAGUCAAUUGCAGUUCCUCCUUCUUGGAAUGUAUUGCACACGUCUUCAAACUCCUUGAUGUGAGAAUAGGGGUUCUCACUUUCCAUCCCAUGGAAAGUAGGUAGAAGUGGCACUAUAUGAGGUCGGAUCACUAGCUGCUCAAUGGGAGGCACUAUGAAUGAAGGUGCACUCAUCCGAGGUGGAUGCAUGCGGUCCCUCAUGGAUUUUGAGAUUCUCCUCUUGCUCAUGUUGGCUAUGUUGAUCUUCAGGUGGACAAUCCAUGAUGUUCAAGUAGACUUCAAACUCGGUUUCUUGAGGAGCUUCAAUUUUCACAAGUCUUUCCUCAAUAUCUCUUAUCCAAUGGGGCAUACACAACUCAUGAUUUCUGAAAUAAAAACAAAGAAAACCAAAGGACUACAUUUCUAGGAAAAGAUUUAAGGUUAGAUAAAAACUAAAUGAAAGAUAAAAUAAAAUAAAAACAAAGAAAACGAGUUAGUGAAAGAAAAAUCACUAACUUGUGAUGAAGAUCACAAGUACUCAUAAAAGGUAACAUUUAUGUACUUAGGUACCAUCCCCGACAGCGGUGCCAUUUAAUUCAUGCCCAGCCGGGUGUUUAUCAAAACAUUUAUAAAACCUACAACACCUUAUACUAGGGUAGCAAAGACAAAGCUACUAUAGUAUAGUGGCUCUAGGAUCGUCCACAGGAAUGGGUUUUCUUUGUACACUUAACAUUAAUGAAAGGAGAAACAGUGAUUUCCUUUUUGGAAGUUAGCUUUUAAAUGAAAAUAAGAUUGAUUGGAAGGGUUGAUUUUAAGUUAAGCAAACAUAAACAACUGAAAUUACUAUAAAGAGAAAGUCUCUUGGAGCUAUAGGUUACUAGGAUCAGGUUCCUGUUGCAAAGUGGGAAAUUACAAAUCUUCUCCUCGCAUUGGGGAUAAUAACAUAAAGGAUGGUUAUCUCCCGAACCGGAUUUGUAUUUAGCAAAUAAGUUUUGAUCGAAAGGAUUCUUGAAAAAUGGUAGUUGCUUCCCAUUAAUGGCUUCAAACACUAAAGACCCUCACCUUGAACCACCUUCUAAUGGCUCAUACUUGAUAACUAAUAGACAUCCAUGGAUUUAGCAAUAAGCAUCCAUAGAAUCCUAAAAGCUUACCAAGUAUUGGCCAUUCAAGGUGAUUCUAAGGGAUUAAAGCUGAAACUUGAAAUACAAACCAUUAAUGAUACACAACUACCUUCAUUUUUAGCAAGGAAAACUCCAACCUUUUCAUCUAGGUCCUUUACCUAGCUUCCAUAACUCCAAAAAAUGUGAAAAUUAGCCACUCAUCCUUUGAGAAAUCAUCCUCAGAGGGUGUUUGGCUAGAGAGAAAGUGAAGAGAAAAUGAGAAGAAAAGGCAGAGAAAAACUCGUCUUUACAAAAUCUCUCAUCCUUUGAGAGGUUUUCCAACCCCUAUUUAUAGUUCCUAAACAAACCCUAAUGUCAUUUAUCUAUUACAAAAGGAGUAAAAAGGAAAAAAUUACAAUUCUGGAGAUUUUUCCCAAAGGUCGAUGCGCAUAAAGUGAUUUUUGCACACCCUGCAAAAAUUUGGCACACCUUGCCAAAUUUUGGCACACCUUGCGAAUUUUGGCACACCUUGCAAAUUUGAUGAUUUUGCCUUGCGAAAUGCUCUAUUUCUCUCCAUCUUACUACUAAUAGCUUUGCCAGCCCCUUUCCAAGUUUGGCAAGGGGUUUUGAAGUGCUCCAAGGCUCGGAUUCUUCAUGUGAUUGAUCUUCAACUUGCCUUGCCAUAGCUUGCACAAAACUCUCCCUCAAUCUUGGCCGGUUUCGGUGAUAAAAAAGCUACCAAAAACACUAAAACUUACCAAAAAUUGGUUAGUAACAUUCUCUAGGUCCUUACAUGCCAAUUGGGAUAAAAAGGUCUAACUACUACUCAAAAGUGCUUAGUACAAUUAAGUUUAAGCUUAUAAAAAUGCACUUUUUGAGUAGUAAUCAUAUAGUCUUUUCCUAUUCUUUGAGGGUUGUUCCAAGAUUAAAUAUGCUCAGUUUCAUAAUUGAAAGGACUUUUUCAUAUUGCUAAGAAAAAAACUUGUGAGAUUGAUUUUUCUAUCAAAAUUCUUAUCUCUAAAGUGGAUUCAUUUGAGUGGUGAGCUUAAUUCUAAGUUCUUAUCUUUAAGGUGAUGAAUUUCUUAUCCUUAAAGUGGUGAACUUGUGUUAUUAACUUAUCAUUUUAUUUCCUUAAAACGUUAUCAUUUUGUGUCGAAAAAAGUAGUUACAGGCUCCCUUCAAGUUUCUCAUGUAUCAACCCGUAAUCAACUUGUGGAUAUACUCAACAAACCAUUGCCCAAGUCCUGCUUUACAUUCUUUCAGUCCAAGAUUGGCAUUUUUUUUAUGGAAGCCCCAUCUUGCAAGGGCAUAUUAGGAGAGAACCAAUCUCACCCACAAAUUAAGAGCACUCAAUGGUGAAGUAUUAAGUUUAGGAGUAACAGAUGUAUACCUUGUAUAGCUGUUGUAUCUUUUGGAAAGUCUAAUACAAAAGAUUAAUCUUCAAACUCUAAUAAGAGAAUUUGAAAUUUUGAGUGUGAAAAAAGAAAUCGAAAUAAAUCUCUAAUUAUUUUUCUAGAGUAUUAGCUGUUGUGAGUUUACAAUAAAAAUACGUCAAAAGUUUGAAUGAUAGCCAUGUGGUAAAAAAAUAUGUUCAAUCUUUAGAUUCCAAAUAAGUUUAACUAUAUUGUUGUUGUCAUUGAAGAAUAUAAACAUUUAGAUUCUAUGACCAUUGAUCAACUCAUGAGAUCACUACAAGCUCAUAAAGAGAUUAAAAAUAAAUAACUAAGAAAAAUUACAACUUUUUUAAACAGAUUAAACUUAUACUAAAGAAGAAUGAUGAAAACAUUAGUGAAAGAAGUCAAAACAAUCAUGAAUAUGUCAAAGACAUGGUCAUAGCCAUGGCUAAGACAAUAGAGGAAGAGGUAGGUUUAAUUUAUCAAACAAUUAAAUAACAAGUCAAAAUUCACAUUCCUUAGGAGGACAUGAAAGAUGACACAACUUAAGGCACAAUAAAAGAAGAGGAUAUGAUAAAUUUCAAAUUGAAUGUUAUAAUUAUAAAAAAUAUGGUCAUGAUGCUUAUGAAUAUAGAAAUGCUACAAACAAUAUGAAAAGACACAUCAAAGGAGUUGCCACCUAGGACCAAACUUCCUACUGAUCAAGUCUCAUAUCGAAUAUCACUUUUGAAGUUACUAGAGCUAAGGAGGUAAUUGAAGAAACUAUUGGAUGCACGCAUGAUCCAAUCUUUAAGGGUUUGUUACGAUGCUCCUAUCUUAUUCCAAAUAGAUGUGUGUUAACUAUUGGGCCUUGAACAAAGUAACGAUCAAGAAUAAGUAUCCAAUCUCCUUAGUGGAAGAAUUAAUUAAUAAACUGGCCAAGGCAAAGUUUUUCUCCAAAUUGGACUAGUGGUUAAGAUACUAGCAAGUAAGGAUUGUAGAGGGGGACAAAAAAAAAAAAAAAAGACUACAUGUGUAACCCACUAUGGGCCAUAUGAGUUCCUCAUGAUGCCAUUUAGACUAACUAACGCCUCAAUAACAUUCUACAACCUAAUGAAUGAUUUUCCAUACAAGUUCUUAGAUGCCUUUGUUGUUGUUUACUUUAAUGCAUUGUUGUCUAUAGCAAGACCUUAGAAGAGCAUGUGAAUCACUUGAGAUUACUAUUUCAAAGACUAAGAGCACACGAACUCUACUUGAAGAUGGAGAAGUGUGAGUUCACACAAAGUCAUAUUACCUAUCUAAGACAUAAGAUAGAUGAAGGGUUUAUCAAGAUGGAUGUUCAAACCAUUAAAGAUUGGCAUGCUCUAAGCAAGGUGACACUACCUGACUAUUAUUGAAUGUACAUAAGGGGCUACUUCAAGAUAGUGGCUCCCUUUGCUAACCUUUUAAAGAAGGAUAUUUGGGAUUGGAGUUUUGAAUGCUAGAAAGCUUUUGAGAAGUUGAAAGUAGUGAUUUGAGUUAAGUUGGUGUUGCAAUUACUAGAUUUGGAUCUCCUAUUUGAGACUCAAACAGAUGCAUUAGCUAGGGCCUUAGGGGGGAUCUUGGUGAAGGAAGGGCACCCACUAGCCUUUGAGAGUUGAAAACUUAAUGAGUUAGAACAAAGAUACUCUACUCACGAGAAAGAGAUGACAAUGAUUAUUCAUUGCUUAUAAUAGUGGAAGCAUUAUCUGUUGGGGAGUAUAUUUACUAUAUAUGGUCACAGGCAACAUAGUUAAUACAUUUUUCAAGAUGCAAAUGGAGUUGAGCCAUAAGCAAGCUAGGUGGCAAGAAUUCUUAGCCAACUUCAAGUCUGAAUGGUUGUAUUGACCAAGAAGACAUACUGUAGUUAUAAAUGCCUUAAACCAAAAGGAAUUGACAGAGUAUGUGAUCGCUCUAUCACAUGUAAUCUCAUAUUUUAAUGAAAAUAUCAAACAAGCUACUAAGAUUGAUUCUACUUAUGAGAAGAUGAAACAACAAGUCAAAGAGGGGGCUACUAAAAAAUAUUGGGUAGAAGAUGACCUCUUAGUGGCUAAAAGAGGUAGGCUAUAUGUACCAAGAAGUUGCUUACACAAGGAGUUGCUAAGAGAGACCUAUGAUGUUGAGUAGCAAAGAGAUGACAUCAAUAGUAUUGUCCAACUACUGUUACUAGCUAAAAAUAGGAGAGAACAUCUAGGCUUAUGUUCAAUAUUGUUUGAUAUGUCAAUUGGGUAAGACAAGCAAGAAGAAAGCUAUAAGGUUACUACAACCUCUCCCUAUCCAAAAGAGACCUAUUUGUGGACUUCAUCGGUGGCUUUCCAAAAGUGAACGAAUUCAAGUAUAUCUUCAUGAUAGUAGAUAGACUCUCUAAGUAUGUUGCUUUCAUACUUACACCACAUGCAUGUCCCGUAGAAGAGGUUGUUAGGCUAUUCCUCAACCAUGUGGUCAAGUACUUCAAGUUGCCUAAAGACAUAGUCAGUGAUUUCGAUGCUCAAUUCAUUGGUGAUUCGUGCCAAGAUGGUGUACCUUGAUUUUGGUCCUCUGAUGGGAGUAAUCAACAAAAUUUAUAACCUAUUACACCAUGUACUAGGAUAGCCUUAGCUAGCAUAGCAUAGUAGCUCUAAGAUCGUUCACUGGGAUGGGUUUUCACUUCACAAUCGAUAUUAAUUCAAAGUUGAAUUGGUGUUUCUUCAUUUCAAGGUUAACUUUAAAAGAAAACAUAAAGAUGUUUGAAAAGGUUGGUUUUAAGCUAACAAAAAAUAGUAACUAAUUUUAAUUACAAAGAAAAGUGUUUCUUGGGGUUUCAGAUCACUAGGCUCAGGUUCCUUAUACAAAAAGGGAGUUCAGGUCACUUGAAUCUUUUCCUCACGUUGGGGAUUUAACAUAUAGUUAUUUCCCAAACCAGUAUGGUAUAGAUGCUUCUCCUUAAUGGGUUCAAACACUAAUUCCCUAUCACUGAAUCAUCUUGCAAUGGUUCAUACCUCUCACCUAGUAUUGGCCAUUCAAGGUGAUCUUUAACCUUGGAUUACCCGUCAAAAGCUUGCAAGAGAUAAGUAAUGGAUGUCUCCUUGGAGUCCAAAAGCUUACCAAGUGUUGGCUAUUCUAGAAAAUCCUACCUUUAAACCACCUCCCAAAGGCUCGCAAGAGAUAAACUAGUGUAUCUCAAUGGACGGAGACCACUUGCCUUACCAAGUGUUGGCCCAAGUGAUUUAAAGGCGUUUUAAGUUAACUAAAAACAUAGAAACCAUUAACGGGUCACACUUUCUCUUCAUUAAAAAUUGAAACAACAAAAACUUCCAAUUUUUGCAUUCGGAAACUUACCCGACUUUCUUCACUCCAAGAGACAAAAAGCCUAGGCACUCAUAUUAUGAGGAAACAUCCUCAGAGUUUGAUUUGCUAUAAAUAAAAAUGACGAGAAAACAAAAAUAUGAAGGAAAAACAGAGCAAGUGCUCUGUAAAAUAUAUUUCUUACUAUCGUCGAUUACAUAUCUGAUAUAUGAUAUAUGAUUUACAUUGGUUCAAAGAUAUAUAUAUAUAUAUAUAUAGAAGAUAUUUUCUAAGAAAUAUCCCAAUAAUAUCUUUGACUGAUUACAAAGAGAAAAUAGAAAUUUACAAAAUAUCUUGAAAAAAAUCUAACUUAGUCGGUGGCAAAUAUCUGAGUUUACACAAGUGGAUUUCGCAGCUGCGAAAUGGCCUUUGGGUUGCAAAAUUUUCGCACAACUUGAUGUAGUUGUCUUCAAACGGCCAUAACUUCUUCGUUUCAACUCCGAUUCGCACACCGUUUGAAGCGUUGGACUUCUAACUUCCCAAUAUUCGAAAAGAAAAGAAAUGGAAUCCAGGAAGUACUCGAAAUAUGUCCAACAGUUGUUGUCCUCUUGAAUUUCCUCAUGUUAGAUUUCUCUCAUUUUCCUCCUUGCAUUUUUUAUUGGCUUUGGCAAAGGACUACAAAGCUCCAAAGCUUGAAUUCUCCAUGUAAAUGAGCUUCCAUUUUCUUUGCCAUGGAUUAUAUAGAACCCUCCCUUAUCUUAGAUUGCUUUGGUGAUCAAAAAGCUAUUUGAUUAGAAGUGAUUGCAAGGGUCCUUAACAUGCCAAUUGAGUUAAAAGGUAAUAACUACUACUCAGAAGUUGGAGCUUUCUACAUUAACAAGAAUGGAUUUGGGAACAUCUAAAUAAUAUGUAUAACACUUUUCUCUAGAUCUAUGAAAUGUUUUUGUUUUUUAAAUACCAAAGUUUUCAACUAUGCUUAGAUCUAGAAAGCAUAAGAUAAUGUUACAUGCACCCUAAUAAUCCAAGGCCUAGGAAUAUAGCGAUCUAAGGUUUCCUAACAAAAUAACCCAAUAAGUAAGAAUGAUUUAUAGGAACUAAAAUUUCUUUCAAAAAGAAAAGAAGAUUAUUGGAGUAAAAUAGGUAUACAAGAGAGGAAAAAAUGCAAAAGAAGUAAAAAAAAUACAAAGCAACAUUGGCGCAAAGGAUUACAAGUAAGAAUAAUGCACCAACAAGACAAGGGUAUUUGCUCUCAUUGCUCUUUUAGUAACUAUAAGAUUAAUAAUCUCUUUGGUAGUUUAAAUUAGUUGAAAAUUUUCAAAUGAAUGUGAAAUCCAAUUUUUUGAAUUGACAUUUGGAAGAAGAAGUGUAUGUAGAAUAAACCAUAGUCGGUAUACAUAUAUGGGCAUGAGAAUAAAGUUCCAAAAUUGAAAAUAACCUUGUAUGUAAUAAAACAAACACUAAGAGCAUGGAAUAAUUGAAUUGACCAAUAUUUUCACGAUAAUAAUUUUGCUUGAUACCUUAAUGAACAUGCUCUCUACAUAAAAUUGAAAGAAAAAAGUGAUAUAUUACUUAUUUGUUUGGAUGUGAAUUGUUUGAUCUUUAUUGGAACUAAUCCAAUCAUGUUUAGUGAGUUCAAAAAAGUAAUAGGACAAAAGUUUGAGAUGAUUGGAUUAGUCUCUCUUGGCAUAGACUUGAAGCAGAUUGAAAAGAGUACUUUUUAUUUCUCAAGAAGACCAUGCAAAAUAAUUUUUUAGAAAGUUUAACUUGAAUAUGUGUAAUAUGGUAAACACAAUAAUAUAAUGCAAAGCUAAAUUAUCAAAGACAUGUAGAAGGAGAAAAAGUGGAUUCAACAUAACAUAAAAUCUUAGUUGGAACCAUACACUAUUUGACUCAUACAAGUUCAAACAUUCUCUUUGGAGUUGGAUUUAUCCAUCAUUAUAUGGAAGCACUAAUGAUUAUUUACACUAAGACCUCCUAGUGAAAUUUUCAUUUUUCACUACAUCAAUGACACAUUUGAUUAUGACUAAUAUUAUUCACCUUUAACAAUUUUAGACUUGUUGGAGAUAAUGAUAGUAAUUAAGGUGGAGACUUGGAUGAUACAAAGAGAACCAAUAGCUUUAUAUUCCUCAUGGGAGAGAUACCAUGUUCACUUGGACUUCAAAGAAGCAACCUAUUGUGAAACUUUCAACCUAUGAAGUGGAAUUUCUGAAAAUGUUUACAAAAUCUCAUAAUCAAAUUGUGAAAAUGUUUACAAAGAGUCUCAAGUUUAAUGAUUUUAGAAUGCAUGAGUGAAAAUGUUGACAAAGUUUAAAAUUUUUAGAAAACUAAGGAUGUUAUUUUUACUAACCAAGUUGAAGGGAGGAUGUUAGUUAAACUGGAUUUAGGAAGUUUCUAAAAAUUAGAAUUUGAGUUAGAUUCUAAAAUGCUUGAUUUAGUUUGUAUAUUUGUUAUUACAAGAUUUUAUAUUUUACCAUUAUGAGUAUCUAUUUUUUUUUAGGUGUUAAUACCUAUAAAUAAGAUGUUAUGUAAUAGUUGAACAAGAGUGGUGGAAGACAAUAAAUUUUUUCUUAAUCAUCUCAAUUAUUUAAAUAUCUCCCUUUACACAUGUAAUUACUUGUGUAUUUUUUUUCAACCAUAUUACUGCAACAUAUGUGAAUCUGUUGGUUGGUCUAUGAAAAUUUAUAUCAGUUGUUCAACCUUUUAAAUUUAUAUGUAACGGUAUUUAGAUCACAGGAUCUUUCCCUAAGCCCGCAUUUUUCUAAAUAUAUAAUUAAAAUUGUUGUGUUUGCAAUUUUAACGAAAUCUAGCGUUGGAUACUUAACUACAUCCCACAAAACGACAAAAAAAAUGGUGGCGAUUUCAUGGAGGCUAACCAUUCACUUGCCUUUAGCCAAGUCGUGUUUCAACAGUAAAGUAAUUAUCUCAAUCAAAACACAAAAUUUAGUUUUCUAAACAAUUAUUGUUCUUGGAAAACAUGCAAGGAACUUAAGCAACUUAAGUGCCAACAUCUGCUCUCUCUCUCUCCAGCAUGCAAUCGUAAGUGGUAGGCACCUCUUUUAUGCUUUAAAUUAAUUGAAUACUUGAUCUUAUUCCGUCAUUCUUUUGGGUCUAACCCAAAAAUACAUUUACCAUGCCUUCUUUUCAUGUCCUCAACUUACUCAAAAGCUCAUAAGUCCCAUUGGAUAUGAUGUACUAAGUUUCAGAUUUUUGAAGUAAAAUUAUCAACAUUGUCUAGCAUAUAUAGUAAUAGGUUAUACUCUUUUCAACAAUUUAAAUUGUUUUUGUUAAUAGAUUAUAUGGAUGUUUUAACACUCAAAGAAAUUGAAAUGAAGCCAAAUAUGCAAAAAAAAAAAAAAAAAAAUGGUUGUGACCAAUAGUUAUAUUUAUUCUCUUUAAUUUCUAUUAAUACUCAAAUUUUUAGGGAUAGAGCAUCAACAAUCCUUGUGAUGAGUUAAUAAUGUUGAGAAAAGUCAAUGACUACACAAUGUAGAUUAAAACCAAAUAUGUCAUCAAAGAAGACAUCAAUAAUAACCCCACACAAUGAUAUGUUGUAUAAUUCAUUACUUGUAUCAAACACAAAUUUCCUUCAAUGUGUGUAUAUGAAUAAAAGAGACUUCUUAGUUUAUAUUUGACAUACAUGCUAUAUAGGCCAUGCUAAUAGCAAUUGAUAACAAGAAUCUCAACACUGAAGUCCAUGUAGAAUCAGGUGUGCACCAUAUUGGGGUUACAUAGUUAGGAUAUUGAAAGAAGCAUGAGUAUAGGAUGGUGAAAGUUCAAAUGAGAAGUGUUAUAAGAUCAUUGCCAAAGCUAUUUUUGCCUCCAUCAUUGCAAAAUUUUGUCCAAUGCAUACCCGAGGACCCCAACCAAAUGGGAAAAAUGAAACUUGGUUUUUUGUUACCUUUAAAACUCCUUCUACAAACCUCUUUGGAUUAAACUCCUUUGCAUCAUCCCCCCAAAUUUCAUGAUCAUGGUGAACUAGGAUGGUGGGCAACACGACCUGCAAUCCAGUUGGAAAACACAUGUCUCCCACUUGAGUGUCCUUAUAAACAACUCUAGGAAGCAUUGCUAUUGGUGGGUAUAACCUAAGAACCUCAUGAAAAAUCAUGGUGACCUGUGGUAGAGAAACUUUAGAAGUUGUUGCAAGAGAAUUCUUACUAAAAUACAUUCUAAAUCAUUAUGAAGGACACUGAAGAAGAAAGCAAUUUCUUAAAAUAGUGAUGCAGAAGAGAAAAUGUUCUAAAUCAUGCAUGACAAAAUAUCAAGUAUGCAAAGGACAUUGCAUAUCCCAUGGAUAUAAUAACUUAAGAACCUCAUGAAAAAUCAUCAUAAUCUAGCAGAGAAAUUUGAAAUCAUGGCAUGAGAACCCGUUCCUAAGCUACUAAGUGAAAGCAAAUGUUUAGUAUAAGAUAUAAAAACUUAAGAGAAAUGUGUUUUCAAUUUUACUUCAAUUAUGGGGAAAAAAACCAGAGUACUAUACGAUUUUAGUGAGAAUCACUAAACUGAAGAUUGGACUAAGUACUCACAAUUUUUAGGUGAUUUAAUCCAUCAGCUUCCCAUUUUUUAUUCCCAAAAACCUGUAAAACCUCUUCUCUUGCACGAGCUUGCUAGUUUGGAUGCUCGCUUAGCAGGACCAUUGUCCAUACAAGCAAAACUGAGGUUGUCUUUUGGCCAGCAAGAUAGAAUAGUUUACACUCUUCAAUGACAUCCUUGACACUGAUUCUAAUCUUCUUGUUAUUUUGAUGUUCUUGAAUUUCUCUAAAAUUGGAUUCCAUUAGCAUACCUAAUAAGUCACUAUUAGUAGUUUCGCCAACCUUCAUUGCCUUCUCUCUUUUGUUAACGAUACCCCUCAACAAUGCAUAUACUUCUUUGCUUAUUUGCUUCAUCUUCCUGUUCGUCUUUGUGGGUAAAAACCUGUGCGCAUGUUAGUAAUUCUAGUAAAUAAAACAUCACAUGAAACACACAGACAUUAAUUCUUAUUUUCAUCCAUGCCUUCUACUUCUCCAUUAAUUUUUUGAAGCUUGUAUAAGGCUUCAAAGGUAGAAACUAUCAAGACAAUAACUAAUAGUUUCAUCUACACAUGUGUUGCAGUGGUAUCUCAUCAUCUUGAUACAAUAUCCUGUGAACAUAAGAUUGAGGAUACUAAACAUCAAUUAGUGAAACAUACUACUUUCUAAGUGUUAUACAAAAGAAGUAAUUGACUAAAAGGGGAUGAAAUGAUCUCAAAGUUGUAAAUCUAACAUCUCUUAUGCUUGACCUUGAAAAGUAAUCCAUUUUGAACAUAAAUUCCCUUCGAACAUAAAUUCCCUUCAACCUUGUUAACCAAACACACACUUGAGCAUUGUGAAACUUUCAACCUAUGAAGCGAAAUUUGUGUUGGCAUCAUUUGUAGGUCAUGAAAUUUGUUCAAGAAACUUAAUUUACCACACAAGAGACUGAUAAAGAUCUAUAUGGAUAUAAAAUCAACAAUUACCUUAUGAGAAAAAUCUAGUUCUCCAUGAUGGUGUUGAGUUUUGAAUUUUGCCUUAGUAUCUGCUGGAAUUUGAAUUUUGAAGUUAAAUUUUACAGCUGGAGUCUUGCACAAAAUCUGCAACAUCCAAAUAUUUUCUUGUUUUUAUUUGGUCAAGAUUUGGUUUCUAUUUUAUAGGAAGUAGUUGUUCAUCAUCUAGUAGCUUGAUUUUAUGCUAUUCUAAUGUUAUUUCAGUUACAAGCUCAUGUAUAAAUUCAGCACUCUUCAUCAAUAAAAUGUGUGUUCCAACAGUCUAAAAAUAUAUAUUCUGCAUAAGUGUUUUAAUUUAAGAUCAACAGAUGGAAGCCAACAAUGCAUUCCCUUACAAUUCAAAGUAUAUUCAAUUGAGCACCUUUCCUAUGAUUCAAAGGUUGCAUGCCCCCUCAACAAUUGAACCCAACAAGAGCACUCAAGUUGUGCAUGUCUGUAACAUCUUAAUUGCACUUUUCCCUACCACUAUAGUAGCAUAUCCCUUGGGUCACUCACCAUGCACUGUCACUCCCCAAAACCCACUCCAAGGGCAUGACGAUCUUUUCACGCCUCAACCCCAAGGGGUCAAAGUGGAAAUGACACAAACAUUCAUGUUGUAAUUGAAAAUUUACCAAUUACCAAAUUCCUAUUCAAGGUAGUAGGAUAAAAUUCUAAAAUCUCCAAGUAUCAACUUUAAAAAAAACUAAUACAUCAACCAAUGUGUUAUUGUCCAAAUAACUUCAAACUCAAAAUAAUUCAAACUAGAAUUAAGUUUUAACAUUUAAACAAUGUCCAAAAUAAAGAGAGUUUAAACAAAUAUCCUAAUAAAUCAAAAUUUCCUUCCUAACGGUCACUCCUCGCCCGAAUUGAGGUUGAUUGAAAGAUUAUCAACAAAGGGGGGUGAGCUCAAAGCCCAAUAAGGAACAUUAAUACAAUUUCAUGGAUCAAACAUUUUCAAUUAUGCUUGCAAAUAGAAGAUAUAACAUAUACUUAUUUUCACAAAAACUUUUGAGUUCAAAAUGCUAAUACAUUCAAACUUUUCAACAAAACUUUCUCAUAUCCAUUUCAAAACAAUUUCUCAUCAAACCAAAUCGAAUACAUUCAAAAUAUCUUUACUCCGGUUAUCAUAUGUCAAAUGGUACCCAAUUAGGAGGGACUUCACAAUUGAGUAACUAGUUUCAAAUUUGUUCCAUUUAAGGUGAACAAACCCAAAUGUCAACAAUCAUAACCCAUUGACUAAGGCCAUAAAGUCAACUAUUAUAACCGGUUGACUCGAGCCAUAAGGUCAAUUAUUAUAACCCGUUGACUAAGAUCAUAUAAUAUCAACUAUUAUAACCCGUUGACUAGGUAGGCCCGAAAAUGUCAACUAUUAUAACCCGUUGACUAGGGCCAUAUAAUCUAGAGUCAAAUACUUUAUUUCAUUAAUUCAAACUUAUAAAACAAAACAUCGUAUCUCCUCAAUUUUUCAUUUUUCAUAAACAAAGAAAAUACUCAAAUAUACUUUCCAUACAAAACAUAUAUUUGAUCCAUGCUUAAAUAUAAAAAUAAUAUUUUUACACAUUUCAAAAUACAAUAUAAAAAGAAAAUUAUUUUCUUUUACAAAAAUCUUGAAGUAUUUAACUUUGAAGGAAUUCCUCCUCACUCAACAUAAUAUCAUACACAAUAUUGAUUAUUGAUUAUUUAUCUAAAUGUAUAAAUUUGACAAUCCUAAAAAUAUUUUAUUUAGUAUUAGGGAUCCUAAUUAAUUUCUUAUGUUAAUAUUAUUUGCCAUCCAAUAUUAUUUUCAACUUCCUAAACAAUAAUUUAUUUCUCUUUUCUAACUUAUCUAAAUUAAAUAUUUUAAGAAUAUUUAUUUGCAUUAAACUAUUAUUACUAUUAUUUAAAUCUCCUAUUGAAACUUAACAAAUACCCCAUGCUAUUCUAUUUUUGUUCCCAACAACUCCACACCAACCUCAUUCAUUAUUAUUAUUAUUAUUAAUUUCAAUACCCAUCAACACCUUAAUCUAUUUCUCUUCCAAGCCAUCAACAUCCUUUUCUUUCUCAUUGUUUACCAAAAUACUAUUUACUUCCUUUCCUAGGUCAACGUGUUGGCCAUUUCUUUGUUUUUUUUUUUCUUUCAACAUGCCAAAUCCUUCCUACUUACACACAUCUUUCAUCAAAUUUUUUUUCUCCUCUCUAAAGUCAAAACUUUUAACCUCCAUACUCACAAAUUUUAUAUAAUUUUCACAUCCAAAACUAUAUAUAUAUAUAUAUAUAUAUAUAUAUAUAUAUAUAUAUAUAUAUUUGUCUAGAUCUAUUCGUUUGAGUAAUCAAAAUUUGUCGAUCUCCAUUAAUAAAUCAAACCAUGUUCAUAAAUUUUUAACAUUUUUUUAUCUAGAAAUUAAUUAAACGAACUCUAAUCAAAAUCGAGAUAUUCCAAAUAAUAUCUAAAGUGUUCAAAACUAAUUAAUGAAUAUAAAAUAUUAAUUUAAAGAUUAAAAAUCUUACUUGAAAAAUUGAUCUUCAAACCCUGAACCUCCAAAUCUUCAAUUGUAUGCUCUCUAAUCUUUAUGAUCUCUGUGUAAAAGGGUUUUCUGAAUAGAGAGGAUGGGAAAAAUCUAAUUUUUACCUAAGGGUUUUAAAUACCAAAAGACUUUUUUACCCUUAUUAAAUUACUUAAUUAAUUAUUAAUUUCUAAAUUAUGAUUUUACCCCUAAAUUGGGUUUGGGGCAUUACAUGCACACUAUUCCCACUCUUGCAAAGGUUGAGCUCUUGAGAAAACUUAUUACAAUUAUUUGGAUAGGAUUUUUUAGGUAGUUUCCUAUUUCUUUCUAUAUAUUUGCCUUAUUUUUGUAGGUUUCCUACAAUUAUAUAUAUAUAGGAUAUUUUCUCUUCUUUUCUCUAUGAACGAAUAUAUGACUAGGUAAAAUUAAGCUAUAGGUUUCUUAAUGGUAUCAAAGCCAACUUCUUAUUACUAGGAAUAAUGGUUAAAAUAGCAAUGAUAGGUGCUUCCAAUUAUGAUAACAACUUGAAGGAGGCAGAAAGAAAACCUAUCCCUCGUUAGAAUUUUGUGACCAAUGGUCAUGGCACUCUUCUUAGCUAAUUACCUCUCACAAAUUAACUUAAUGGAGAAAAUUAUCUUUAAUGGUCUCAAUUUGUCAAACCUUUCAUUUGUGGGCAUGGACAAAUUGAAUAUUUUAUUAGAGCAACAUCAAUACCACAAGGAACAAUUCUCAUCGAGACAUGGGAAGUAGAGAAGGCCAUGAUUAUGUCAUGGCCGAUCAACUCAAUGGAACUCAAGAUUAGGAAGACAAACAUGUUCAUGCCCAUAACUAGAGAGAUUUAAGAGGUUACAAAGGAAAACUAUUACAACUUGAUAACUUGCCUAGGUCCACAAGAUAGUCAUACAAAUAAAAUACCAACCAAGGUAAUAUGAAUGUAAUUCGGUACUAUAAUACACUCAAACCCCUUUGGUAAGAACUUAAUUUGUUCUAUGAUUAUGAAUAACAUUGUGCACAAGAUAGUGAAAUGUUCUAAAAGAUGAUUGAGAAAGAUCGAGAAUUUGCAUUCCUAGUGGGGUUUAAAUAAUAAAUUAGAUGAGGUUUAAAGUAGAAUUCUUAGUUGUGAAUAAUUCUAGCAAAAUCUGAUACCUCUUUACUUAACACUACCCUAGCUAUAAAAAACAGUAAGCUUCACAUUUCGACCAAUGAUCCAAAAUUCAAAAGGAUCCACAGAAGGCCCUAGUGUGACCAUCAUCUCCUCUAAAUGCUUCUAGAAUUCAAAAUAUCCAUUGACAAGUGAUUAACCAUCAUCUUUUCCAAAUGCAUCCUUAGAUGUCAUAUACCCAACGGUGUUCAAAUUCGUAAGAUAUGACUAAGUCUAGAUAUUAAGAAGAAGGUAUAUCAUCCUCUACCAUUAGAAAGAAGAAGAUAUAUUAUCCUCUACUAGUGAAAGCACAUAUGCCAUCAUCUCAACAAAUCAAGCAUGCGUGAAAAUCUGUCUUCUUAGUCUUUUAAUUGCGGUCAAGAAAAUAUUAAGGAAGUACUUAAUUUGAAGCAUCUCUUCAUCAUCUAUAGUGGUUGUAGUUGCCAAUCCAAUAAUUGUACUCCUUUGAAAGUGGUACAAAUUAUUCUUCCUUAUUCCUUGCAUCACCACAAGUUUACUUGGCAUAACUUUCAAAAUCCCAUCUUUUAUAGUGACAAUAUUGAACCCUAUGGGUUCUAAUUCUCCCAUUGAGAUGAGACACUUAUUCAUACUAGGAACAUACCAAACAUCAUUCAAAAUUUUAGUUAAUUCAUCAUGAGUCUUCAAAUGGAUGGUAUCUAUUAUAGUUAUCUCACAAGCAUUAUCAUUCCCCAUGUAAACAACUCUAUCUUAUAGUUCUUCAAAGCAAUAAAACCACUCCUUUUACAGGAAUGCAUGUGAAGGUGGACCCAAUAUCCAAAAUCCAUUCAUCUAAGUUAUAAAACAAGUAUAAGCAAACCAAAGCAAAGUUUAACCCAUCUUCUCCAAACUUAGCCACACAAGCAUCAAAUACUAUCUCUUCUUUAUUCUUCUUCUGUAGCUUAGGACAAUCAUUAUUCUGACACUACCAAAAUUAAGCAUGGUUGAUCCAUUUAUAUUUACUUUUGCGAUAGAUUUAAGCUGACGCAAAUUUCUAACACACCUAUUCCACUGCAAAUUGAAUUAUCCGUCGCUUAUAUGUAACUAUUUACCAAUGGUAAUUGCAAUAACAAAUACCUGUUAGCAAAAAUAUUAUUGCAAGGGAUUUAAACUAUUGCAAAUGUUCAACUAAUAUACUUUGUCACAAAAGCAAUUUACCUGUUUUUUUUUUUUUUUAUUUUAAAAAAAGUGAAAUUUCAUAAAUAAUUUUUUUAAUGAAAAUUACUACUCACUAAAAUAGUUUUAUUAUAGUGGAUAAUAAUACCACACAUAAUUUGUUCCAAAAAUAAUUGUUGUCUUAUGAAUAUAAAAUCUUUUCACCAUAGUUGUAUGAUAAAUACGAUCUAGCUAGUGACAAAACAAUUUUAUGAUUAUUUUUUUAGGUUCAUACAAUAUUUACAUUUUUUUUAAUCAUAAUAGUUUUAACAUUUUAAUAUUUUUUAACUACUUUUUAUUGUCCAUUUUAGAAAGAAAUAAAUUAAAAAUUAUUGAUAUAUAUAUAUAUAUAUAUAUAUGUUUGUAUGUAUGUGUGUAUGUAUGUAUGUAUGCAUGUAUGUAUAUAUGUAUGAUAUAAUUUAUGAUAUCGAAUAAUAAUAUUUAAAAUUUUAAAAUACAUUUUAUAGAGAUUUAUCUAAUUUGAAUGUAUUCAAUAACAUAAAAAAAAAAUGAUAGUACAUGUAUAAGUAUUUUUAUUUUAAAAUGUUGAUAAUUUUAUUUAUAAAUUUAAAUUUAUUCUAUAUUUAAUUAUUAUACAAAAUACACAAGAAUCAUAAUUAAUUAAUUUAUAAUAAUUUAUAUAUAUAUAUAUUAAUUCAUGCAUGUAUAAUUUAUAUAUGAUAUGUAUUUAUAUAUAGAUAAUAUUUAUAACAUAAAUGCAUAAGGAUACAAUAUUUACAUUUAUGAAUCUUAUAUGCAUUCUUUAUAUUGCACAUAACAAAGUUGAUUUGGUGGCACAGUUGCUUCCUUUCAAACUUGAGGUCAAGAGUUCAGUCUCGAGAAACAGCAUCCAAGCCAAUAUCCAAAACUAGCAAGGAGAGGAGUGUUCAAGAUGCUCCAUGUGAAUGUAAUGAAAUCGAAAUUUCAUGACAACCUAAAAUCUUUUAUUAUUUACAUUUCUCAACCAACUUAAUCCAUCGGUAAUAGUGAUGGUAAAAAUCUAUUGGAUAGUUUUUCACUAAAUAUUUUUUAUUGGCAGUGGAAAAUUCCCAUCGAUAGACUUUUUGCCUACACUCCUUUCCUUGACUACCAUGCAACGGGAUUAUCGGUUGGUAAAUGUUUAUUUAGACCAUGUAUAUCAGUUGAGAAAAGUCAAAUUUCUUGUAGUGUGAUGACCCUUGUCAUGAAAAAGGACACAUUCAUCUUUUGCAAGUAUACAUUUAAAUUAAGAACUGUCUCAUUUUCUAGGUUUUCAACUUUGAGAUUAGGCAUUAACUGUUAAAGCUUCCAAUGAUAUAUCUCUAUGAUUGUUUUGGUCCUUCUUCCUUUAUUCAGAGCUUAGCAAAGUGGAACGCACAACAUCAAAAGUAAUCUUAUCCUUACCAUAAAGUAAAGUGAUGGUAAGAUUUUCUUACACAUCAAGAAGCAAAUUCAAUAACAAUAAGGCCUUAUUCUCAUCUUCAAUGAUCUAAUCUAAAUUCAAAAAAUUUGCUUUGAUUCUAUCAAAUUCAUGCAUAUGAUCAUUCAUAGACAUAUCUAGUUGAUACUAGAAGCAAAUAAGUUUUUUCUUCAAAUAUAGUUGAUUUUCUAGACCUUUUUUCAUUUACUUGUCCUCCAAUGUCUUCCAUAAAUGUUUUUGUGGAUAUCUCUUUCAUAAUGGAAUAAUUUUAAGCAUUAACAAGAAAUAAGUGGAUGGAACUAUAAAAUUGACAAUUGAUCCCUUACUCAUUCUUUGUCAUUCAUGUUUUCAGGUUUUUCUUCCAAAACAAUAUCCAAUUCUUAUUGACAUAUCUAAUUAAUGCCUCUUACUACCACAUUCCAAAAGUACUAGUCCUAUCAAAUUUCACAUUAGUAACCAGAGUUUUAACUAACGAAGUUUUUACCUUUUCUUUUAACUAGUGAAAUAACAAAUAACCUUGAACUAUCUUUGAAACCAACCUUGGAUAGAACUAAGGCUCCUAUACCAUUUUUUUUUUGUGCUUUAACCUAAUCCCACAAGACUUCCAAAAGUACCAAAUAAAAUACAAACUAAACUAGUCCAUAAUAUAAAGAUAAAUAGCAAGAGAAAUAAAAAUAAAAGAGGGUACACAAUAUUUAUGAGGUUUAGUAAGGAUGUCUUACCUAUAUCAUCGGACAAUGAUGAUCAAUCCACUAAUCUUCAAAUCAAAAUUACAAAAUCAAGUUGGGAAAGCUUAUCUCACAAAGUGGAUGCAACUACAAAGAUUGACUGAAGCUACUCUAACAACUUUGCUAAAGUCAUUCUCACACUACUAUAAUGAAAGGACUUAGACUCAUUUAUAGAACCUAAAUAAGUCCCCAAGCCUUGACAAAACUAAUUCAUAAUUCCUAUGGGACAAGGACUCCUAACAUAUAACAAAUUAUGAAAUCAUAAUCCUUAUAGGACAAGGAUCCCUAAAAUAUAUUAAACUCUUAAUUGAGCUAAAAGCCAAUACCUAAUAUAGAACCCACACCAUAUUUGCCAUAACUCUACUAAGUAGCUGGUUGUUAAGCAGAAUUAUCACUUUCAAAAGUUAAAUAAGCAUUUCUUUUUCCUUCCCUUUUCAUUUUUCUUAUCAUCCAAACAACAACAAUAAAAAAUUUAGUGUAACUUUUUGCUUUGAUACUUGUUCUCUCAACUUGCUUGCUUGUGAAUGACCUCCAUAAUCAAAUUAAAUGGAGAAAUAAUGUGGAGUUCCAAGAUAUAGGUAGAAAAGAGUGGACAAAACCCUAGAUCUACAAAAUAGCUAGCAAUUUUGUCUCUAGAUCUCUCAUUGUUGUGGUAAUGGCCAUUGAAGAUGUCAUCACUGAGAAGAUCACAAAGUGAAGAAGGCAUGAUUGAGGGUUGGUAGAGUAGAGAGUUAAGGUAGAAAAUAGCAAAGAUAGGAUUUUGACGUUUUUAGAAUUUGUACAUAAAAAAUAAAUACAAUCCAAAAAUCACUUUGAGAACAUGAUUUUACCUAACCAUGCCAAACACAUUUUUUGUUAUGUGGAAGUGAUAGAAGCGAGAUCAUGCUAGGGUUUUAGAGCCAAAGAGGAUCGGUUGGCAAUGGUGGUGUAGACCCUCCAUUUUGUCCCCCUAGCACACGCCCUAUUAGGUGAUCUUUUAGUAUGCUAUAGUAGUUCCUGGGUAGCCCACGUUACUCGUACAACUAACCUUUUUGAGUCACCUCGAAGACUCUGGUCAAGGGAUUUAUCCGACCCCUUAUUGUGGCCUAGGAUUUUCCUUUCUUUUUUGGACAACUCAUUUAGAUACACUUUUAGGAUAACAUAUCUAGGCACACUCGACCCAUUUAGAUGCACUUGGCCCACUUAGGCUCACUUAGGCCCACCUAAGCUCACUUGGGCCCAUUUUGGCGCGCCUUGAUCCACUUAGGUUUACCUAGUCUUGCUUAGGCCACCUUUUAGAUAUGGUUGCAUGGCUUGUAUGACUAGCAUGUGCUUGAUUUUAUUUUUUUUAUUAGUUUUAUUCAUUUACUUCUUCAUUAUUUAGAAAAUUGCAUGAGAAUUGAGAUUUUAGUUUUUCCUAAUUGCUUGAAUUGAUAUUUCAUAUAUAUUUAUAUAUUUAAUUUAUUCAUUUACUUAUUUUUGUAGGAAAUUGCUUGAGCUUCAUGAUUUUAAUUCUUUUAAUGCGAUUGAUAUUUUAGUUUUAAUUACAUAAUUUUAAUUUUUGAUUUUCAAUUACAAGAUUUUUUUUUUAUCCUACUUUUUAAGUUUUUCAAAUUUUACUAUUUUAUUAUUAAUAUAUGGUUACUAACUUCUAUUUUCUUUUGUUUUAUAGAGAGGAUGUCACUUUGAAAGGUGAACUUACCAUUUUGAAAAGGAAAAGAACCCUAUGAGCUUCACUUUUAAAGAACAUGAUUCCAUACAUUGUUUGAGGAUUAAUUAAGUGGGCAGGUUGCAUAAUUCUCUGUAGGCACAUAGACCUAGACAUUCUUUUUAUUCUUAUUAUUUCCUUGAUUUUCUACUCUUCCAUAUAUUCUCUGCAGGCUGCCAUGUAAAAAUGGAAACAUGUUGCAUAUAAGAGCAAGGUCAACACACAGCCAAAGGAAAGGGUGGCAUACCUACCAUACAGUAGGCAUUCAGAAUCACAAUUGGUGGAAUUUUUAGAAGGAUGAUCAACUUGCCGUUCUGAAUAUGGCAGAACGCUAAAGUGAAAUAAGGAAUGAGAUAUUCGGUUAAGGAAAAUUGAAGGAUUUUGGAAGGCUGGUCAAAGGGACAUUCAGGAUGUUUUUGGAAGGAAGACUCUUCAAGCAAGAUCCAGCAGCACACAAUAAUCAAGAGUGGGGUUUUAUCUUUGGGAAAAGCACACAGCACACGCUGGAUGGGGGAUUUUUCUCCAGCAGACACAAUUGAAGAUUUUCUUGAAGGUAGUAUAGACACACUACCAUUGGGGAUUUUUCUGGUGACACACAUCAUAGAGGCUUUUCCAACAGGCAUGCACCAUAAGUUUGCAAAAUCGACCAUGCUGCCAGAUUUUUAGAGCAGCAACUGCACUGCCAGAUUUUUAGAGCACGCACAUGGGGUUAAAAAAAAAAUAAAAAAUUUCCCCACACAGACUAACCACCAAGAAUUCAUCUUCAUUGGGACACACUUUCCACAGAAAAAUAAAUAGAACCAGUUGCCAUCCACUUUGGAGAGGAAAGCGGCCUACACCUUUGGACUUCGAAACAGCCCCCAUGCAUUAUUGAAAAAGGUAAGUUAAAGCUUUUUUAUUUAAUUUUUUGAUGCGUGAAUAUUAAUUUCGUAAUGGUUUUAGAAUUUUAGUUUUUUUUUAUUUAAUUAAUUCCAUGUCGAUAUUUUCAUCUAUGUGCUUUAGAUUUUUUUAUUUUAAUUAAUUCCAUGUUGAUAUGUUGGUGUUUUCAUAUUUUUAAGUUUAGUUUUUUUCAAUUCGUCCCAUUUAGUUCAAAAGUUUUUAGGUUUUGUUUUGUUUUUUUUUUUUUUUAAUUUAUUAGGUUAUUUGUUUUAUAAGAAAACAUGUGUGAACUUUAAGAUUUCAAUUAGGUAUGUGAAAUGUGGCAGAUUAUUAGAUAUGUUAGCGGCUUGAAUUUAAAAAUAAAAGAGUUAAUAAGUGAAUGUGAAUUGUUGUGAGAUGUUAACUUAGUGGUUUGACUAAAGAAAGAAAAAUCAAUGAAUUGAAAUAACACAUGUUGCCAUGGAUUGAUUGGUGUUGGUGGCCUAGUAAAAUAUAAAAACCAAUGAACUGAAAUAGUGCAUGCCAACCUUGGAUUUAUUUGUGUUAGUGGUAUUUGUUGAGUGAAUAAAAAAUAAAAAUUUGUUUAGGAAUGUUUGGUUAAUUAAUUUAGUGAAUCUCAUGUUUGUGUUUGUGUGUUUCCGAAUUCUUUAAUUUUGAUUUUAAUCCAUUAAUAUUCAAUUUUGUAGUUGAUUAUAAUUUUAGUUAGCUAAUUGAGUUAAUAAAAUGUUAUUAUUUUCCUGUUUUAAGUUUAGUAAUUUUAAUUUUGAUCUAUUAAUAUUUAGUUUGAGUGUAUUAGAGUUUUAGUCAAUUAAUUUAGUUAGUCACAUGUUAUUAUUUUCAUGUUUUAAGUAUGGUAAUUUUGGUUUUGAUCUAUUAAUAUUUAGUGUGAGCUUUUUGUAAUUUUAGCUAAUCAAUCUAGUUAAUUACAUAUUAUUGUUUUCAUAUUUUCAAGUUUGUUAAACUUUGGUUUUUGAUUCAUCAUAUUUUGUUUGAGUGUUAAUUUACUUUAAUUGAUCCUAUGUUAUUAUCUCCAGAUGUUAAGUUUGUUGGUUUUAAUCCUUGAUUGGUUUUUAUCUUAGUUCAUGCACUUCUUGAAUUCUAGAUGUUAGUCUUGGUUAAUAUUUUUGUUAGUUUGUUUAAUUUGGAAGUCAUUAAUUUGUUGCCUUAGUGAUUGAUAGUCAAAUCCUUUUUUUGAAGGCCAUUGGAAACCCAUGAAGUGUGGACCAGUAUUUUUCACGUUUGUCCCCACUCAAACAACGAGACUUGCUUUUAUUUGUGAAAAAUUAAUUUUUGGAAAAGUCGAAGUCGCCAAUUAUUUUAUUUUUAUUUUAAAGUGAAAAUAAAACAAGAAAGAAAACCCUAAAAGGUGACUUCAUAAUUUUUGGAAAAAGUGUCUUUGAAAAACCCGAGUCUAUGUCUGGGGAUCAGGUUACCUAUUGGGAAAGUACCUCUAAAAGGUAGCACCCCUCUAAGCCCUAUAAAGGUCUCUACUAACUACUUUGAGGGAAAUAUGACAAUUAACUGGUUAAUCAUGGAUACUUAAGUAGGCUAGGUGAUUUUGAAAAAUAGCAUGCUUAAUAGGAAAAACAAUCACAAUCAUAAGAAGAUUUAGGUUGUGUACCUGGACUGCUUCUUAAGCGCUAUCACAAGACAUCAAAGUUAGUUCAAAUAGUAUAUCAUCCAACACAUGCGUUUUAUUAGAAAUAAUCGAACAAUGAAACAUGUAUAUCAAAACACUAAAGCACUAUCAAACAUAGGCAUAAUUCACAAUGACAAGCAUAUUCACAGAAUCUAGAAAGUGGGUGAUAGGGGGGACAUACUUGGAUAGCAUAGAUAACUCAUUAUACGCUUCCUCAUGACAUAAGGGGUUCAAUAAUAAAUAAUAAAAUAAGAAAUCCUAGCAUGCUUAAUAUCUAAUUAGCAUAACCAAAAUUAUCAUAGUAUACAAAAGCAUCAAUUAUCACUUACAUCUUGAAUAUAAUUCCUAAAAAAUAAAUAGACAUGAUUACAACAAAUAGCAAGAGUGGUAGCAAAAAUAAGUUUUGAAAAGAUUUUCUUAUGUAGGGGUUUCACCAAUUCCCCAAUCGAUAUACACGAAUUUAGCCUAAAAUUAUCCCAUUCAUUUGGGACCACAAGCUUUGAUUUGUGUUUUGUUCAAAACAUAAAUUUUUAUUGAAAACCGAGAAGGAUGCAGACCGAUCAAGAUAUGGUUGCAUAUUUUAUUUUUAUUUUUUAAAAAGAGAUUUUGAUUCGAUAGACUCAAAAUGAAUUUUCUUUUUGAAUAGAUUUUUUAAAAGGGAUUUUUUGAGAAAAAGUGUUUUGUUUUAAAAUAAAAGAAAUUAAUUUUUAAAAUAACAAAACAUAGAAAACAAAAUACCAACCCAAACAAAAGGAAAUGAAAUCACAAAAUAAAGAUUUAGACAAUCAUGCCAAUUAAAAUGGUGAGAGUAAGGCCAACCUUCAUGAGUUUCUAGUAGCCUUCAAAAAAAGAAUUUGACUAAUAAUCACUAAGGCAACGAACUAAUGACUUCCUAAUCAAACAAACCAAUAAAAAUAUUAUCCAAAACUAACAUCUAGAUUUCAAGAAACACAUAAUAAAAAAAGAACAAUCUAGGAUUAAAGUCAACAAACUUAGCAUAUGGAGAUAAUACUAUAGGGUCAAUUAGGGUGAAUUAACAUUCUAACAAAAUAUGAUAAAUCAAAGACCAAAGUUUAGCAAUCUUGAAAAUAUGAAAACAAUAACAUGCAAUUAACUAGAUUGACUAUCCAAAAUUGCUCAAAACUCGAACUAAAUAUUAAUAGAUCAAAACCAAAAUAUGGCAUACUUAAAAUAUGAAAAAUAAUAACAUGUGAUUGACUAAAUUAAUUAACCGAAACUCUAAAAAUACUAAAACUAAAUAUUGAUGGAUCAAAAUUAAAAUUGUCAUAUUUAAGACAUGAAAAUAAUAACACGUGAUUAAAAUCAAAAUUAACGAAAUCAGAAAAAGCACAAACACAUUCAAACUAAAAAAAAAAAAAUUAAUACUAGAUUAAAUUAGAACUAAAAACAUCAACAUCAUCUAAUAAGAUUGGUUAAACUAUCAAAUAGAAAUUGCAAAUACAUUUAAACUAGAACAAAUAAAUAAAUCAGCAAAUUACAACUAAACUAAAAUUAGAAUUAAAAAUAUGGAAUUCACUUAAGAGGAUUAAUCAAAUAAUUAAAUUAAAAUCAUAAAUGCAUUCAAAUUAUAAAAUAUUAAAAUUAAACUAAAUUGAAAUUAAGCUCUAUCUAAUAAGACUAUUUAAACUAAUGAAUUAAAAUCAACAAAUACAUUUAAGCUAAAAACAUAUUAAAACCAAACCAACUAGGAUUAAAAACACAAACUUUAUUUAACACGAUUAUUUAAACUAAUGAAUUAAGAUCAGUAAAUGCAUUUAAACUAAAAACAAAUUAAGAUCAAACUAACAAGAAUAAAAAAACGCAAACUUUAUUUGACACAAUUAUUUGAACUAAAGAAUUAAUAUCAACAGAUGCAUUUAAACUAAAAACAAAUUAAAAUCAAACAAAUUGGAAUUAAAAACAUAAACUUUAUUCAACAUGAUUAUUUAAACUAAAUAAUUAAGAUCAACAAAUGCAUUUAAACUAAAAACAAUAUAAAAUAAAACUAAUUGGAAUUAAAAACACAAACUUUAUUUGACAUGAUUAUUUAAACUAAAGGAUUAAGAUCAACAAAUGCAUUUAAACUAAAAACAAUAUAAAAUCAAACUAAUUGGAAUUAAAAACACAAACUUUAUUUAAAGAAUUAAGAUCAACAAAUGCAUUUAAACUAAAAAAAAAUUAAAAUAAAACUAAUUGGAAUUAAAAACACAAACUUUUGUUUGACAUGUUUAUUUAAACUAAAGGAUUAAGAUCAACAAAUGCAUUUAAACUAAAAACAAUAUAAAAUCAAACUAAUUGGAAUUAAAAACACAAACUUUAUUUAACAUGAUUAUUUAAACUAAAGAAUUAAGAUCAACAAAUGCAUUUAAACUAAAAAAAAAUUAAAAUCAAACUAAUUGGAAUUAAAAACACAAACUUUAUUUAACAUGAUUAUUUAAACUAAAGAAUUAAGAUCAACAAAUGCAUUUAAACUAAAAACAAAUUAAAAUCAAACUAAUUGGAAUUAAAAACACAAACUUUAUUUAAAUUAUCAUAUAAAUUAAGAUAAACUAGGAUGGAACUUAUGAACUGCAAUCACAAAAAGAAGACAUCUAAUUUAAGAAAAAUAAAAAAAAUUAUACGAAUUGAUAUUCAAAAGAAUUUAUCACAAAAAAAUUGAUUAAACUAACGAACUAAAAUCUAAACUAAAAAAUGCUCUAUCGAAAACGAAAACUAACCUGUGUUGUGUUUGAAAAAAUACUCUCUUGAUGAUUAAAGUGGCAGCCCGAUCUCCUUCUAAAGUCCUUUGCUCUCCUCCAAAAUUCCGUGUGUUCUCUCUAAAAAAGUUCCCUCGCAUGUUCUCUCUAUCUCAAAAAUUCUCUUGUGCGUGUCCUCUCUUUUAAAAAAAUAUCCACAUGUUCUCUCUACCAAAAAAUUCCUCACUCUGGAAUUCCUUCGUGUGUCCUCUCUAAAAAAAUUGCUCUUGUGUGUCGAUCUCCAAAAAAAUCUCCCCUCUCUUCCAUUCCUUCUAUCUUAUUUAUAUAACAGCCCACCCUAUGGAAUAUUUUAUUUCCUUUUUGGAGAUGUACUUCUAACCUUAAAGGAGACCCAACUUUCUAAACUUCUAAUGGCACUUUCUAUUUCAACUGACUUAAUAAAAGAAACAUGCCAACCCAAUGAAUGUUGUCUGAUGGGCCCUUGGUCAUAUUCCCCUUCUCUCUUCCAACCAACAACACCUGUAACUUGUAAAGUUGCAUUGGGGACUAGUUUAUCUGAAAGCUUGGAUGAGAAUGGAGACCGAACUCCUUCUUAGGUAAUGUAGAGCUUCAAAAUUUCUAGAGAAAGAUUUUAUGGAUAACCAAAGUCCAUGAUUUCAUCCAAUAGCUCAUAAAUCAGAACAAAGUUGUUACGAAUAGCAUCUUCAUCGAAAGCCCCACCGAAAUAAGAUUUGAACAAUGCAACAGGCUCAGCAAUAAACUUGAAUGCACAAGUUACAUUGGCAUUGCUACUGACCACAAUCAUAAUGUACACAUUGUUGAUUCUCAUAUAAAAGGAGUAACCUCCAAUCUACCGCAUAGGACAUGUGCUAAGUUCUUUUGUUUGCAUUAUAUGCAUUCGAAAGGCAUUCACCAUGUUUCCCCUAACAUCGUCAUGAUAUAGGUAAUUGAUGAGGACAUCGCCCCGGAGAUUCAAGAAAUAGAUAGCCGAAAUAGCCAUUGACAUCUCCGAUCUAGUGGAUCCGAUGCCAAACAGAUCAAAGAAUGGGGUUCAGAUAUGCGGUGGUUGAGGCCUUGUUUCAACGACGUCGUUUUGAUUGGGUUAGAUCUCAAGCUUUGGAGAUGAUGAACUCAAAUCUCCCAAAUGAGAGUUGCAGUCAAUGCUAUUGAUCUUGUGUUCUAAAUGCAGUGUGGGCAAUAACCCUGACGGAUCUAUAAUAGCAUCUAGGGUUCUGACGCGGGAGAGGUGGAGAAAGGGACGACGACUGUGGUAGGGAUUCACGAUGGGGGGAGAGGAAAGAGUGGUAAGAAUGUUCUUACUGGAGAUAUCGAGGCAAGAGAGAAGAGCUCGAGGGGAAGGAUCGCGGUCAAUGAAGGAGGUGAGGAUAUGGGUACCGUCCUCGACUACAGCGCGGAAGGAGAAGAAGAGAUUAGGUACAGAGGUCAAGUAGUAAAAGUGGAGGCAGAGGAUUGGUCAUGGCGUGAGAUGGAGCUAUGAGGCGAGUCUUCCAUUUCUAUUUUCUCUGCGAGUGUAUAUGGGUCCCCCACCUUAUAGGCUGCUUCUCUUCAACAGUGACUCCCCUCUCCUUGAUCGCUUCAAGUGACAUGCAAAAUUAAAAAAAUAAAAUUGGAAUAAGAAAAUCCUAUGAUUGGAAAUAUAAUAUAAUAAAAUAAAAAAUCAAAUCAUAUGCCAUAAAAAAUCUAAGAUGUCAAUUCAUGGAAUUAAAGAAUGUAUAAAUAAGUGAGUAAAUAAACAAAUAAAUUGACAAGGGUAUAAAAAUAAAUAUUAGACGUAUGCCAUUAGAAAAAAUCAAGAAAUUAAAUUAAUGUAACGGAUCAUAACAAUUUAAAUAUCAAACUCAAACCCUAAAAAAAAUAUAUAUAUAUUCAUUUAAUGCAAUAUAUAGUUAAGCCAAUACUCAUUUUGUCUCGAAAAAAUAAAAUCAAGAACAUGCCUAAAUGAACUAUGCCAAAAGAAGUGUCUAAGUGACCUAUUCUGAAAAAGUGCUUAGGUGGCCUCGGGUGAAUGUGUGAAAGUUGAAAAGUGUCUAGGUGAAUCUAAAUGGGUCAAAGGGAACCUAAAUAGGCCUAAGGUGGUGCCUAAUGGGCCAAGUGUAUCUAAAUAGGCUUAGGGUAAGACUAGGUGGGCCUAACUAAGUCUAACCUAAAGUGCACCUAAGUGAAACUUAAUCUAAACUUGAAAGACAACCAAGAUAGUAAUGUGGAACUGGAUAAACCCCUCAACCAAAGUCUCAAAAGUGGCCCUGAGAAGGUAAGCUACAUGAGUAGGAAUGGCCCAUCAUGUGCUAAAGGGACAAAAUGGAGGGUCUACAAAUAUGCCCCUCUUCGGUAGAGAUCACGAGUGUAGAGAAUGUGAGUUGAAAUAUGAAUAAUGAGUGGAACGAAGUGAACUAUAUUGAAGAACUAAAGAAGGACCAGAGAUUUUGUCUUAGCACAUGACGAGAGUAAGAUUAGAACACGGGGCUGCAACGACAAUGAUGGAACAACUAUAUGUGGGAGGAAUGACAGUAAAGAGGUAAAGGUAUGUGAUGAGUAGCACAAAGAUAGAAAGGGAUAAAAAGAAUGACUAAAGGUCAUGGAUGAGAUAAAUGACUCUGGGUUGUGAGCUUAGGGCUCUAAAUGGAAAAAAAUGACUUUGGGUUGUGAGCUCAAGUCUCUAAAUGGAAAACAAAUGACUUUGGGUUGUGAGCUUAGGGCUCUAAAUGAAAAUAAUGAAUAUGGGUCAUAAAUAAGAAGAACGACUCUAGGUCAUGAGCUCAGGGCUCUAAAUGGAUAGCUGAUCAGGAUGCUUUUCGGCUCAUGGUGUCGGGUCGAGGCCACUCGCAAGUGGCUAGAAUGGUGAAAACAAAACAUCUCAAGGAUGUGAAGGAUGCAAAUGACUUUAGGUCAUAAGCUCAGGGCUCGGGAUGCUAUGAAUGACUCUAGAUCAUGAUACAAUGGGAAACUUAGGGUUACAAUGAAUAGCUUAGGGCUAUGGAUGGAAUGAAUGACUCUAGGUCAUGAUGCAAUUUGUAACUCAAGGUUACAAUGGAUAGCUCAAGGUUAUAAAAACAGCUCAGGGCUGUGAGCUCCAGGCUCUAUGAAUGAUUAGCUUGAAAGAGAGAGCGAUAUGCAAACUCCAGGUCAAACCACUCAUGGGUGAGCAAAUGAUGAAGGCUCAGCUCAAGGCUGGAAAGACUCCGGGUCUUAAAGAAAUGAUAGCUCAAGGCUAUCAGGUUUAGGGCCUAUAAGGAAUAGAUAGCUCAGGGCUAUGAGACUCAAGGUCUAGAAGGAAUGGAUAGCUCAAGGCUACGAGGCUCAGGGCCCAGAAGGAGCAGAUAAAGAAGACCAACUCAAAAGUGGGUAGGAAGUAAAUGAGAUCAAAUUUGUAUACCUAAAAUGCUAAGGUUCGGACUAUUGAACUUAAGAAGGGAAAUAUGCCCUAAUAUCUAGGGUGCUCGCACUGCUAAAACAACCAGUAAAUCAAUCAUCUAUCGAAAUCAAUUGGUUAGAAAUCAAUGCAUCAUGACAAACCUCUGAAAAAUUUAGAUUGAAAGAACUCUCUGUGUUUGAAAAGCUGCUCUGUCGAUGAAUCUCAAAGUGUGUAUAUCAUGGCUCAUCUAAAAGCAAAUCUCAAAGUGCUAUUGCUCAUCUAGAUAACCCAAUCUGCAAGACAACAAUGGUGAAAGCAAUCUAUCUCAAGAACAUCUGGCUAACAAAUCUACCCAUGCUCCUUAAGUGAAACCUGAUGUGAUCCAUUUCUAUCUCAACGAAUCCAUGUAAGGAGGUCUUGAUACAGUCAAUCGUCGGAAGCUCCAGACUAGUCUCAAUUUAAAAUCAAGUUUGUCAUUGUCUCAAUCUCAAGGAUACUCAAAGAAAAUGGGGAAAUAUGCCCAGUAUGAGAUCCGACGUCAAAGUUGUACGGUAAAUAACCAACACCUAUCAUCCAUCCUCGUACUAUUGCCUAAACAAAAUCUCACCAAGGAGAGGGGAAUAUGUUCCAAUAUGAUAUCUGAUGUCAAAGUUGUGAGAUAAACAACCAACAAUGAUCAUCCAUCUAUGUAUCGCUGUCUAAACAUAAUCUCACCAAGGAAAGGGGAGUAUGCUCCGGUAUGGAUAUUUGAUGUACGAUAAAGAAUCCGUCAAAAUCAAUCAAACAUCUUUAUAACCAUAAAUGGGAAUAGCCAUGCCGUCUAACAACAACUAGGAACCUCAGAGAAAAAGGGAAAUAUGCCCCAUUGUGGAUGUCUAAUGCAUGACAAAAUGAUGAAUCCGAUAUCAUCAAUGAACUGUCUCCAAACUCAAAAAUCCAUCAAAUAUCAAUAUGCCAAUCAAGAGAGAUAAUAAAUGCUUCCAAAAGUAUCCUGCAUAAGAGAAAGCAUAAUAACGACUAUACUUCAACCAAUCUAUAAAAACCUGUCAAAGUGAAGACUAUCAAAGAUAACGUCUGAUCUUAUGGCCUCAAGGUGGUCUUAAGACCAGGGACGUAACGUAGGCCAGGGUGAUAGGGUGAAAGAAAUGAAGGGAAACUUGGCUCAAAUACCCAAUGAUCAAACCCAUACCCUCAUGUACAAGAUGUAAUGCAUAGAAAAACCUCAUGAGCCAUGGACUUAAAGGUAACCAAAGGAAAUGUCGAUAUUGAAACAAGAGAGAGGAUAAGUGGUCAAACUGUUAAUGAAACAUGUGGAUGAUGUGUAGAAGGUAUCGGACUAGAAAUGUGUGUCAAUAUGUAGGGAAUGGAUAAAAGGUGGAACGAAGAUCUAGAAAGAGGUGAUGAGAUAUAAAAUAAGGCAAUAAGAAAGUGGAAGGAAUGAUGAUCAACCCAUAUCUGUACAAUAAAGAAAAGUCAUAUCACCAACGAUUGAAUGGUGAUUAAGACAAUGAUUCGGAGACCCUAGUAAGAAGUUCAAUCAUCUCUCAUACCUAAUACAUAUCAACCAUGACCCAAGAAGCAUAGGAUCUCAUAGAAAUCUCACAUGAACUCUUGACACUCCAAAUGCAUAACAAAAGUGGCUCAAAGAGUGAAAACUCAUAUAAAAAUCUCACAAGAAUCCAAAAUGACAAAUAUACCCAAUAAACAUACCUUAAAAGGAGACAUAAGUGUCCAAUGGAGCAAAAUACCAUAUACGAACAUAUCAUUGGGUUUUUUUUUUUUUUUGAAUGCGCAUGUUGUUAUCAUCAAUAAAUCGAACUCCAAUGGGAAAUAUAUAAGGAAUGAACAAACUCUCUCAAGUCACUAAUGAAUACAUGAACCUCAUCCCAUGAGACAACCUCUCAAACUGAAAUCUCCGAAUCAAUGCCAAAUGAUGGGAUGAAUGGAGUGAUAUGAUUGCCCUCUUUGCACCAAGAAGUGAAAAAUCAUCAACACAAAGAAGAUGAGAGAUAAGAUGAAGCAAAUAACGAUAAAAACAAGAAAGAGAAUGAAAAUGUGAUAAUAGUAAAAUAGAACAAACAAUGUGAUAAGGAGAUGGUAACAAGAAUGAGAAGAUAGGCCUAUAAGUCUAAAGUUCAUGAGACUUUCAUAGCAAAGCAUGAAUAUACAUCAAAGGGCCCUAACCUGAGUAUAGAAAUGUUAAUCAAGUCUAUAAGAAAUAAAUAAGGCUAUAACAUACCGUGUGAGGCUCAAUGGGCUAGCAAUGGUAUAAUAUAUUAAUAAAGGUGAUAAAGUGUAAGGCUAACCAAAAUGAUGGCCACCCAUCCUACGACCAUAAUCUCAAACGUAAUACUUCUUCAGCUGAUCCACAUUGGUAGGCUUUGAAAAUUGGUUUCCAUCUAAAUUGGUUAACCAUGCUGCCCCUUUUGGAGUCAACUCUCGAAUAACAUAAGGCCCAUUCCAACUAGGUCUGAACUUCCCUCUAGGGUCUCCAACUAAACCUCUGAGAAUCCUUAAAACCAAAUCCCCAUUUUUGUAAUGGUCUAAGCUUAACCCAUUUCCUGAAGGCACGAGCCAUCUUCCUCUAAUAGGCUUGAACAUGAUCUGCUGCUCUCAAUCUCCUCUCAUCUAAAAGGUUAAGUUGAUCAAAUCGAGCCCGAGCCCACUCUGUCUCAUAAAUCUGUUGCUCAAGGACUACUCUCAAUGAACCCAUCUCUGUCUCAACUAGCAAAAUAGCCUCCAUACCAUACACUAGAAAGUAAGGUGUAGCUCCCGUAGAAAUGCGAAAAGAGGUACAGUAUGCCCACAGUGCAAAAUGGAGUUUCUCUAACCAAUCUCGAGAAGUCUCAACCAUCUUCCUCAAAAUCCUCUUAAUGUUCUUAUUUGUUGUCUGUACUGUCCCAUUGGUCUGUGGCCUAUAUGCAUAAGAUCUAUGAUGUCGAAUGCCAUACUUCCACAACAAAGUAUCUACCUCAGCUCGAAAGUGCACCCCUCUAUCUGAAAUCAACUCAUGAAGAAUCCCAUAGCGGCAAAUGAUGUGUGACCUGAUGAAACGGGCAACUCUAGUAGAUGUUAACCUCGCAUAUGAUGCAGCCUCCACCCACUUGGUGAAAUAAUCUAUGGAGACUAGGAUGAACUCAUGACCAUUGGAAUAUUUUGGUGAAAUCUUCCCAAUAAUAUCAAUACCCAUACUGAAAAUGGUUAUGGCGAGGUCAAAGCAUGUAACUUUGAUGGCGGUGCAUGAAUGAGAUCACCAUGAAUUUGACACUCUGGGCAUUUAUGAAAAAACUGAGAACAAUUUGUCUCCAUAAUCAACCAAAAACACCCUGUCCUCGUAAUCUUACGGGCCAACAUGUGUCCUCCCAUAUGCAGACCACAAACUCUUGCAUGAACCUCUCUCAUCACUUUGUCUACAAAGGCUUAAUCUAAACACAACAGAAGCAUACCAUCAGCUGAUCGCCUAUAUAAGUGAUUACUACCCAAAAAGUGCUAUUUUACACCUUUAAUGCAUUAUGUUUUAAGCACUUUUGUGUAGUAGUUCUCCAUCUUUAGUCCAAUUGGCAUGUUAAGGACCUAGCAAUGUCUUCUAAUCAUAUUUGUGGCUAGUUUUAAUGUUUUGACAGCUUUUUGGAUCAUUAAGACAAGUCAAGCAAAGGAGAGAAGCAAAGAGAAGCAAAGAGAAGCAAAGUGAAAAAAAUCAAGAUGUAGCAGCUGCAGUCUUCUUUCACACUUUUGGAGCACUUUCCGAAGUCCAGUUUUUACAUACUAUAUACCAUUUCAAAGCUAUGGAAGUCAAGAAUCCAACGCUUCAAACCGUGUACGAUUUGGAGCUGAAAUGAGGAAGAUAUGGCCUUCGGAAGCCAACUGCUCCAGGUUAUGCGAAAAUUUCGCAUUCCACAAGAGGUUAUGCGAAAUUCGCAUAACAUUCGCAUAUGGUUCGCAUAACCCAUGCGUGUUGCGAAUUUUGCUCUGCCCUUUGCCGACUCCACUUUAGAUAUUUUCCUUUGUAUUUUGUGAUGUAAUUUCCUUUAUUAUCCUUGUAACUAACCAAUCAUAAGCUUUGGCUUUUGUAAAGACUUUAUAAGGGGUGGAAAUCACCUCUUGGAACAUAUGGAAUACGUAUUACGUUUUUACACUGUGAAUUUUACAGAGCUCUCUCGUUCUCUUUUCUCUUUACUAUUUUCGUUUUCUUGGAAGCCAAACAACCUCUAAGGAUGUUUGCCCGGAGGAUGAGAGGCUAAACUUUCGGUUUCUUGGAGUAAAGGAAGCUAGGUGAAAAGUCCAGAUGAAAAGGUGGAAAGCUUCCAUGCAUUAAAUUCAGGUAGUUGGAAUUCAUAAAUGGCUUCUAAAUCCAAAGUUUUGCUUUAAACCCCUUAGAAUCACUUUGAAUGACCAAUACAUGGUAAGCUUCAGGUCUUUAUGGAUGCUUAUUGCUAGAUUCAUAUUAGUCCAUUAGUUAUCAUGUACGAGUCAUUGGAAAGUGAUUCAAGGUGAAGACCCAUAGUGUCUUAAGCCAUUAAUGGACCUUGACUAUCAUUUCUAUUGAUCUUUUAUGGAUUAAAUCUUCAUUGUCAAACCUACACCGGUUUGGGAAAUAACUAUAGGUUAAAUCCCCAAUGCGAGGAGAAAAAUCCGGAAUUUUCCACUUUCUAUUCUGAACUUGAUCCUAGCAACCCUUAGCUCCGGGAGACUUUCUUUCUUCCAUUUUUAAUUAGUUUAUGUUAGUUUAGUUUCAAACACUUUCAAAACAAAUUUUAUUUUCUUUUAAACUUUAAGUUUUUUAUCAUGGAAAUCAUUAAAUCCAAUUUCUAAUUUUGAGUAUAUCACUGGUAGAAUGGAAACCCAUCCCAGAGUUCGACCCUAGAGCCACUAUACUAUAGUAGCUUUGCUACGUUAGUAUGAGGUCAUAGGUUUUAUAAAUGUUUUUGAUUAAAUGACCCAUUUGGAGUUACAUGCGAAUCAAAAUGGCGCCGUUGCCGGGGAUGGUGCCACAAUACAGUGAUGCAACCUUUUAGAGGCUACUUGUGAUUCCCAUCACAAGUUUGGUGAAUUCCUUUUUCACUAACUUCAUUUCCUUUCAUUUUAUUUUUGUCAGGUUUAUUUUCAUUUUCAUUUUCUUUCUAACCUUAAUUUUUUUUUUCUAGGUUUCUUUUGUUUUUGUUAUUUUUGUUUUAUUUCAGGUAAGUAGUAACUUGUGCAUGCCCUAUUGGAUUCGGGACCAAGAGGGAAGAUUAGUAAGGAUUGAGAAUCCUCAAGACACAGAGUUGGAUAUUUGUGUUAAUAUCAUGGACCCUCCACCAGAGGAUCAGAAUUCUCAACAAGGUCAAGGGGGUAAUCCCAAUGCAUAUUUAUCCAUGAGGGAUAGAAUGCACCCACCAAGGAUGAGUGCACCCUCAUGCAUCAUACCUCCUCUUGAGCAGUUGGUUAUAAGGCCCCAUAUUGUGCCCCUUCUACCAAAUUUCCAUGGAAUGGAGAGUGAGAAUCCAUAUGCCCACAUCAAGGAGUUUGAGGAGGUUUGCAAUACCUUUAGAGAGGGAGGAGCUUCAAUAGACUUGAUGAGACUCAAGCUAUUCCCUUUUACUCUGAAGGACAAGGCAAAAAUAUGGCUUAAUUCUUUAAGGCCAAGGAGCAUAAGGAAUUGGGUUGAUCUUCAGGCCGAAUUUUUGAAGAAAUUUUUCCCCACCCAUAGGACCAAUGGGUUGAAGAGACAAAUCUCAAAUUUUUCUGCUAAAGAAAAUGAGAAGUUCCAUGAAUGUUGGGAAAGGUAUAUGGAGGCCAUCAAUGCUUGUCCUCAUCAUGGCUUUGAUACAUGGCUCUUGGUGAGCUAUUUUUAUGAUGGAAUGUCCUCCUCCAUGAAGCAAAUUCUUGAAACCAUGUGUGGGGGAGAUUUUAUGAGCAAGAAUCCGGAAGAAGCCAUGGACUUUUUAAGUUAUGUGUCUGAAGUGUCAAGAGGAUGGGAUGAGCCCAACUCAAGAGAAAAAGGGAAGUUUCCCUCUCAACCAACCCAAAAUCCAAAAGGUGGAAUGUACGUAUUAAGUGAAGACAUGGACAUGAAAGCUAAAGUGGCAACAAUAGCAAGGAAGUUGGAAGAACUUGAGUUGAAAAAGAUACAUGAAGUCCAAGCCAUUUCCGAGACCCAAGCCCAUGUCAUGCCAUGCACCAUUUGCCAAUCAUGUGAUCAUGUGGUAGAUGAGUGCCCAACCAUGCCAGCUGUGAGGGAGAUGUUAGGUGAUCAAGCCAAUGUUGUGGGGCAAUUUAGGCCUAACAACAGUGCACCUUAUGGAAACACCUAUAAUUCAAGUUGGAGAAACCAUCCAAAUUUUUCAUGGAAACCAAGACCACCUCCAUACCAACCACAAGGCCAAACCCAAGCACCUCAACAAACCUCUUCAGUGGAGCAAGCCAUUGUGAACCUAAGUAAAGUCAUGGGUGACUUUGUGGGUGAACAAAAGGCAAUCAACUCCCAAUUGCAUCAAAAGAUUGAAAAUGUUGAGAGUUCUCAAAUUAAGAGAAUGGAGGGGAUGCAAAAUGAUCUAUCUCAGAAGAUAGAUAAUAUUCAAUACUCCAUCUCUAGGCUUACCAACCUCAACACUGUGAAUGAAAAGGGAAAGUUUCCCUCUCAACCAAGCCAAAAUCCCAAGGGUGUUCAUGAAGUUGAAACCCAAGAGGGGGAGUCUUCAAAGUUGAGGGAGGUUAAAGCUUUGAUCACUUUAAGGAGUGGAAAAGAGGUUGAUCAACCCCUGCCUAAGGUGAAGCAAGAUGAAGAACUCAUGUCAAAGAAAACCUUGGUCAAAGAGAGCAAUAACCAAGAAGAGAAGAGUGGGAAGAAAAAUGCAUCCAAAUCAAGCAUUGAAGAAGAGCCAAGGAUAGUGAUUAAAGAGGAUAUGAUGAAGAAACAUAUGCCUCCCCCUUUUCCUCAAGCUUUACAUGGAAAGAAGGAAAUCAAGAAUUCAUCAGAAAUUCUUGAAGUCUUGAGACAAGUGAAGGUGAAUAUACCCUUACUUGAUAUGAUCAAGCAAGUCCCCACAUAUGCAAAGUUUCAAAAGGACUUGUGCACGGUCAAGAGAGGGUUACAUGUGACAAAGAAUGCAUUCCUCACUGAGCAAGUAAGUGCUAUCAUUCAGAGUAAGUCUCCAGUUAAGUAUAAAGAUCCGGGAUGUCCCACCAUUUCAGUCAACAUUGGAGGGACACAAGUGGAGAAAGCUUUACUAGACUUGGGGGCAAGUGUGAAUUUGCUCCCAUACUCUGUGUACAAGCAACUGGGACUUGGAGGAUUGAAGCCCACAGCCAUCACUCUCUCCUUAGCUGAUAGGUCAGUAAAAAUCCCAAGGGGGGUGAUAGAGGAUGUUCUAGUUCAAGUGGACAAAUUCUACUAUCUUGUGGAUUUUGUUGUGCUUGAUACUGAUCCCACAGUGAAGGAAGCAAACUAUGUACCAAUUAUCCUUGGGAGACCUUUCCUAGCUACCUCCAAUGCCAUCAUCAAUUGUAGAAAUGGGGUGAUGCAGCUCACAUUUGGGAAUAUGACCUUGGAAUUAAACAUAUUCCACCUAUGCAAGAGGCAUCUUCACCCAGAAGAAGAGGAAGGAUUAGAGGAGGUGUGCUUGAUCAACACCUUGGUUGAAGAGCAUUGUGACAAGAAUUUACAAGAGAGCUUGAAUGAAAGCCUUGAAAUGUUUGAAGAAGGGUUACCUACACCCUCUGAUGUUCUACCUAUCAUGUCUCCUUGGAGGAGACAGCAAGAGAUCUUACCACUGUUCAACCAAGAAGACUCACAAGAAGCAACUGUGGAUGACCCUCCAAAGCUUGUUUUGAAGCCGCUCCCUGUUAAUUUGAAAUAUGCAUAUUUGGAGGAAAAUGAGAAAUGUCCAGUGGUGGUUUCUUCAACUCUUACUAGUGAUCAAGAGGAUAAUCUUUUGGGAGUCCUCAGGAAAUGCAAGAAAGCCAUUGGAUGGCAAAUUUCUGAUCUGAAAGGGAUUAGCCCUUUGGUGUGCACCCACCAUAUUUAUAUGGAGGAUGAUGCAAAACUAGUGAGGCAGCCCCAGAGGAGGUUGAAUCCUCACAUGCAAGAGGUGGCGAGGGGUGAAGUUCUGAAGCUACUCCAAGCUGGGAUCAUAUAUCCCAUUUCAGACAGUUUGUGGGUGAGCCCCACCCAAGUAGUCCCAAAGAAAUCUGGAAUCACUAUGGUCCAGAAUGAGAAAGGGGAGGAAGUCUCUACACGCCCUACCUCAGGAUGGAGGGUGUGUAUAGACUACAGGAGGUUGAAUUCAGUGACUAGGAAGGACCAUUUCCCAUUGCCUUUCAUGGACCAAGUCCUUGAGAGAGUCUCAGGACAUCCUUUCUACUUUUUUCUGGAUGGGUACUCGGGGUACUUCCAAAUAGAGAUUGAUUUGGAAGAUCAAGAAAAGACAACCUUCACUUGCCCCUUUGGUACUUUUGUGUAUAGGAGAAUGCCCUUUGGUCUAUGCAAUGCUCCUGCAACUUUCCAAAGAUGUAUGCUGAGCAUCUUCAGUGAUAUGGUGGAGCGCAUCAUGGAAGUCUUCAUGGAUGACAUCACUGUUUAUGGAAGUUCUUAUGAGGAGUGUUUGUUGCAUUUAGAAGCUGUUCUCCAAAGAUGUAUUGAGAAAGACCUAGUGCUAAAUUGGGAGAAGUGCCAUUUUAUGGUACAACAAGGAAUUGUCUUAGGACAUAUCAUCUCCAAGAAGGGCAUUGAGGUAGAUAAGGCUAAGGUGGAGCUUAUUGUUAAGUUGCCACCUCCCACAAAUGUUAAGGGAAUUAGGCAAUUCCUUGGACAUGCCGGGUUCUAUAGGAGGUUCAUUAAGGAUUUCUCAAAAAUCUCAAAGCCUCUUUGUGAACUCUUGGUAAAAGAUGCCAAGUUUGUGUGGGAUGAGAAGUGUCAGAAGAGUUUUGAGGAACUGAAGCAAUUCCUCACAACUGCACCAAUAGUGAGAGCCCCAAAUUGGAAGUUACCUUUUGAGGUAAUGUGUGAUGCAAGUGACCUUGCUAUGGGGGCUGUCUUAGGGCAAAGAGAAGAUGGAAAGCCCUAUGUAAUUUAUUAUGCUAGCAAAACUUUGAACGAGGCUUAAAGGAACUACACAACUACUGAGAAGGAGUUGUUGGCAGUAGUUUUUGCCUUGGAUAAGUUUCGUGCUUAUUUGGUAGGGUCCUCUAUAGUGGUGUUCACUGACCAUUCCGCUUUGAAGUACUUGCUAACCAAGCAAGAUGCCAAGGCAAGAUUGAUAAGAUGGAUCCUUUUGCUCCAAGAAUUCAAUCUCCAAAUCCGGGAUAAAAAGGGGAUAGAAAAUGUGGUAGCUGACCACUUGUCAAGACUUGUGAUAUCACGUGACUCACAUGGUCUGCCUAUCAAUGAUGACUUCCCUGAGGAGUCUCUCAUGUCAAUAGAGGUAGCUCCAUGGUAUUCUCACAUUGCAAAUUUCUUGGUUACUGGAGAAGUACCAAGUGAGUGGAGUACCCAAGACAAGAGGCAUUUCUUUGCUAAGAUCCAUGCCUAUUAUUGGGAGGAGCCUUUUCUCUUCAAAUAUUGUGCGGAUCAAAUCAUAAGGAAAUGUGUUCCUGAACAAGAGCAAUCAGGAAUUCUUUCCCAUUGCCAUGAUAAUGCAUGUGGAGGUCAUUUUGCCUCAUAGAAAACAGUAAUGAAAGUGAUCCAAUCAGGUUUUUGGUGGCCCUCUCUUUUCAAGGAUGCCCACUCUAUGUGCAAGGGAUGUGAUCGGUGUCAAAGGCUUGGUAAGCUAACACGCCGAAAUAUGAUGCCCUUGAAUCCCAUCUUGAUAGUGGAUGUCUUUGAUGUUUAGGGGAUAGACUUCAUGAGACCAUUUCCAAUGUUGUUUGGACAUUCCUACAUUUUGGUGGGAGUGGAUUAUGUCUCUAAGUGGGUAGAAGCAAUCCCAUGUAGGAGCAAUGAUCAUAAGGUGGUUCUUAGAUUCCUCAAGGACAACAUCUUUGCAAGAUUUGGUGUGCCUAAGGCCAUUAUCAGUGAUGGAGGAACCCACUUUUGCAAUAAACCUUUUGAGACUCUUCUAGCCAAGUAUGGGGUUAAGCACAAGGUAGCUACACCUUAUCACCCUCAAACAAGUGGCCAAGUUGAGUUAGCCAACCGGGAAAUCAAGAAUAUAUUGAUGAAGGUGGUGANNNNNNNNNNNNNNNNNNNNNNNNNNNNNNNNNNNNNNNNNNNNNNNNNNNNNNNNNNNNNNNNNNNNNNNNNNNNNNNNNNNNNNNNNNNNNNNNNNNNCAUUGCCAUGAUAAUGCAUGUGGAGGUCAUUUUGCCUCCCAGAAAACAGCAAUGAAAGUGAUCCAAUCAGGUUUUUGGUGGCCCUCUCUUUUCAAGGAUGCCCACUUUAUGUGCAAGGGAUGUGAUCGGUGUCAAAGGCUUGGUAAGCUAACACGCCGAAAUAUGAUGCCCUUGAAUCCCAUCUUGAUAGUGGAUGUCUUUGAUGUUUGGGGGAUAGACUUCAUGGGACCAUUUCCAAUGUCGUUUGGACAUUCCUACAUUUUGGUGGGAGUGGAUUAUGUCUCUAAGUGGGUAGAAGCAAUCCCAUGUAGGAGCAAUGAUCAUAAGGUGGUUCUUAGAUUCCUCAAGGACAACAUCUUUGCAAGAUUUGGUGUGCCUAAGGCCAUUAUCAGUGAUGGAGGAACCCACUUUUGCAAUAAACCUUUUGAGACUCUUCUAGCCAAGUAUGGGGUUAAGCACAAGGUAGCUACACCUUAUCACCCUCAAACAAGUGGCCAAGUUGAGUUAGCCAACCGGGAAAUCAAGAAUAUAUUGAUGAAGGUGGUGAAUGUGAAUAGGAAGGAUUGGUCUAUUAAGCUCUUAGAUUCCCUAUGGGCUUAUAGGACCGCUUACAAGACCAUUCUUGGGAUGUCUCCUUAUCGCCUUGUUUAUGGCAAAGCGUGUCACCUUCCAGUGGAGAUUGAAUAUAAAGCAUGGUGGGCAAUCAAGAAGCUCAACAUGGAUUUGACAAGAGCCGGGUUGAAGAGAUGUUUGGAUUUGAAUGAAUUGGAGGAAAUGAGGAAUGAUGCUUACCUCAAUUCAAAAAUUGCAAAAGAGAGGUUGAAGAAAUGGCAUGAUCAAUUGGUAAAUCAAAAGAAUUUUGCCAAGGGACAAAGAGUCUUGCUUUAUGACUCUAAGCUUCAUCUUUUUCCGGGAAAAUUGAAAUCAAGAUGGACGGGUCCUUUCAUAAUUCAUGAUGUGAAAUCAAAUGGAGUAGUGGAACUACUCAACUUCAAUAGCACUCGAACUUUCAAAGUGAAUGAGCAUCGUCUUAAGCCUUAUAUAGAAUCAUUUUCCCGAGACAAGGAGGAAUUCAUCCUCCUUGAUCCACCUCCAACAUGAAAAUACUUGGUUUAUGGUUGAACUUAGUCUCUUCAAAGACUAAAGAGUUCAUCCUCUUUUUGUUUUCUUUUAAGUUGAUUUUAAUUUAAUCUAGUUUUUUUUUCUUGUGUUUUUCCAUGUUUUGAUUUUUUUUUUUUGACUUUAAUGCCGUUCUAAUGUGUUUUUAAUUGGUUUUUUGGGUUAACAUUUAGGUGGGAAAGCUUGAGGAAUGAAGUCAUGGUGAAAGUAAGGCAAAACAGGGGAGAAAAAAACAAGUUUCAGCCAUUUUCGAAACCCCCCCCCCAUAUGCGAAAUUUUCGCAUAACACACCCCUUAUGCGAAAAUGCUUUUGUGGCAAUUUAAAAAAAAACAUGCUCUCGGUCCCUUCCCAAAAUCCCUUAUGCGAAUUUCACAGGAAUGCGAACCAUAUGCCAACCAUAUGCGAAUUCGUUUUUGAGACAAAUUUGCAAAACCAUGCUCUCUGUCUGGGUUCUCACAGGAAUGCGAAAUUUUCGCAUAACAUAAGGGGUAAUGCGAAAUUUGCAUUUCCUCUUUAAAGACCGUGUUCUUCUCUUCCCAUGCUCAAUUUCUUCUUCAUUUCUCAUAGCACCUCUCUUCCAAUCACCAAAUCCCUUCAUUAAGUUUCUUUUCUUCAUCAUUCCUCAAUCUCAACACCACCAUGGCAGCCCAUCUCCAUAACUCCACCUCAUAGUCGCGGCAGUCACUAUUCAUCACCGUCCACCCCUUCAAUUUUCAGCUCUUUCCACCAUCAAAAACCUCCCAAUUCCUCACUCAACACUAUAAAUCCAACCCUCAACCAAUUUCAGCCUUGUAUUCACCAAUUCAAAACCUCAAGCUAAGCAUUCAAGCCACGUUUUCUUCAAAGAGAACCCAUGGCCGCCGGGUAGAGGAGCUCCAAUUUUCAAAAUUUCUUCGUGAAAAAGCUCCAAUUUCCAAGCCUAUUCACCAUGAAAAAUUCUUUUCUUACCUUAGCCAGCAUUUCCCACCCUCAAAAGCCAAAAAUUUCCACAAUUUGAAUGAGCUUCAAAACUUCAAGUGGGCGUGUGAAUAGUGCAUAUGCGAAAUUUUUGCAUUCCAUCAUGUGUUAUGCGAAAUUCGCAUAACCCCCCCCCCCCCCCCAAAGGGAAAAUUUUACAAAAACCCCACCCUGGGGCAAUUUUUCACUUUUUUCCUCUCUGCCCCCCCCCAACCCAAACCCGGGGGGCCCCAUUCAUUACUUUCUUAAGCCCAAAAACCCCAGGGGGAAUACCCCCGCCCCCCCAAGCAAUGGGAAAAACCGCCCUGGGGGGGGCCCNNNNNNNNNNNNNNNNNNNNNNNNNNNNNNNNNNNNNNNNNNNNNNNNNNNNNNNNNNNNNNNNNNNNNNNNNNNNNNNNNNNNNNNNNNNNNNNNNNNNCCCCCCCCCCCCCCCAUAUGCGAAAUUUUCGUAUAACCCCUACCUUGUGCCAAUUUUUCACUUUUUCCAUCUCUGCCCUCCCCAAUCCAAAGCCUAUGAGCCUCAUUUCAUUACUUCAUUAUGCCUAAGACCCGAGGAGGACAUACCUCAGCUCCCCAGAGCAGUGAGAGAGCCACCCCUAUGCGGGCCCCACUAGAUGCGCUGCCACAUUUAGCUGAUUCUGCCUCUCAGAGCAGAUACCAUACGAGAAGAGCAUCUGCCACACCUAUGGCCCCUACUCAGAUUCCACUUUGGGGUCCUCCUACAAAGAAAGCCAAGACUUCAAAGCCAGGAGAGUCCUCUAGAGCACCUCGGGAUUCACAGUCUCAACCGCCCAUCACUAUCCCUGGUUUAGAGUACCGUGCCUUGCUCGGUUCUUUUCAGACUCUGACCACUACUCAGACGGCCAUUAUGGAGCGCAUGGACUACUUCCAGAUUCAGCAGGAGCAGCAGACUCUCAUUCUCCGUGAGAUUCAGCAGCACCUCGGUCUUGUGCCAUCAGCUCCACCUGUAGCGGUGCCUUCCUCAGUUCCAGCAGAGGACCCCUCCUAUCCACCAGAGGAGCCUACUACUUGAUCAUACGAUCACUCCUCUCCCUUUUUUUUUUUUUUUUUAUCUAUAUUCUAUGUUUUUUGGAUGUCUUAUGUAUUUUGGACCACCUUUAUAUUGGGAUUGGAUAUAUUCCAUGUUUGUCUUGUAUAUUGUACUCUCUCAGUUUAUAUAGACAUCUUCCUUUUUGUGUAUUUUAGCUAUUCCUUUUUAUUUCCUCUAAUCAUCACUCUUAUGAUUUUUCUUUUCUUAUGCAACAUGUGGUUUCUCCUCUCUAUUCAGAGUACCUUACUAUAAGGAGGUAUCACUUCCUCCCUUUUAUUACCAUUUGCUUUUAGAACAUUGGGGACAAUGUUCAUCCUAGUUGGGGGGAGAGUUGAGGAAGUAAAUUGUUGAAUUUUUUUGGUUAAGUUAUUUUGCUAACAAAUUUUUUGCAAACUCUCCUUGUUUUCUUAAAGAUAAAUUCUCAAAAAUAAAUAGGAGAAAUUAAAUUCUUAUCUUAUUGCCAUAGUCUUAGAGUUUGUAUUAUGCUUAUUAAAGUUGAUAAAUUGUUGAAGCUCCUUUUGAUUUCAAUCUUAAGUCUUCCACUCUAAUCUUUUCACACACUGAACACAUUAGAUUCCAGUUAUAAGAUGGAAAACUUUUUCACCCCCUAAACUUAGGAAAUUUUUGACUUGGUACCAUUGACUUCAUUCUAUUAGUGUUGGGACACCUUAUAAAAGGCCAAUGUGUCUUAUGAAAAAAAUUUUGCUUCACUUGCUUUGAAACCCGAGCAAGGUCCGAGGGGUAUAUGGUGAAAAUCUUUAAAACCUGGUGCCCUAAGCCUUCAAUGGUUGGGAGCCACCGACCUCACUGCUCGUUACAUGGGUGGAUGGGUGGAGUAUAUUAAAAAUAAAAAUAAAAAAAAGAAAAAAAGAAAAAGAAGAGGUGCGUUCUUAGCCUUCUAUAUAUGAGUUAGUGUUGCUAAAGUUAGAGAAAAACCUUAGUUGGGAGGAGAAUAUAGUUUGACACACUAUAACUGGAAACUAAGCAUCUUAACACUUAGAUUUUUGUGGAAGAUUAAGAGUUGGUCCUUUGGGAGUGGAAAUUAUUUUGAUACUCAAAUUUGCAUAAUGCCCGCUUUUUGAAUGUUGUGAUAGGUAAGUUAUUUGAUGACUCUUGUUGAUGAUUGAGUUUUAUAUCCUUGACUAUUCACAAGAGAGUUUGAUCCAAUCAUGCCACUUGGUUAUUUUUUGGAGUGAUCAGCAUGAUUUUGUAAAAUAUUAUAUUAUCUAUUCUUCUUUAUUUUUCUUUCCUUCAUUGCUCAGGGACUAGCAAUGUGUCAGUUGGGGGGAGUGAUUACUACCCAAAAAGUGCUAUUUUACACCUUUAAUGCAUUAUGUUUUAAGCACUUUUGUGUAGUAGUUCUCCAUCUUUAGUCCAAUUGGCAUGUUAAGGACCUAGCAAUGUCUUCUAAUCAUAUUUGUGGCUAGUUUUAAUGUUUUGACAGCUUUUUGGAUCAUUAAGACAAGUCAAGCAAAGGAGAGAAGCAAAGAGAAGCAAAGUGAAAAAAAUCAAGAUGUAGCAGCUGCAGUCUUAUUUCACACUUUUGGAGCACUUUCCGAAGUCCAUUUUUUACAUGCUGUAUACCAUUUCAAAGCUCUGGAAGUCAAGAAUCCAACGCUUCAAACCGUGUACGAUUUGGAGCUGAAAUGAGGAAGAUAUGGCCUUCGGAAGCCAACUGCUCCAGGUUAUGCGAAAAUUUCGCAUUCCACAAGAGGUUAUGCGAAAUUCGCAUAACAUUCGCAUAUGGUUCGCAUAACCCAUGCGUGUUGCGAAUUUUGCUCUGCCCUUUGCCGACUCCACUUUAGAUAUUUUCCUUUGUAUUUUGUGAUGUAAUUUCCUUUAUUAUCCUUGUAACUAACCAAUCAUAAGCUUUGGCUUUUGUAAAGACUUUAUAAGGGGUGGAAAUCACCUCUUGGAACAUAUGGAAUACGUAUUACAUUUUUACACUGUGAAUUUUACAGAGCUCUCUCGUUCUCUUUUCUCUUUACUAUUUUCGUUUUCUUGGAAGCCAAAAAACCUCUAAGGAUGUUUGCCCGGAGGAUGAGAGGCUAAACUUUCGGUUUCUUGGAGUAAAGGAAGCUAGGUGAAAAGUCCAGAUGAAAAGGUGGAAAGCUUCCAUGCAUUAAAUUCAGGUAGUUGGAAUUCAUAAAUGGCUUCUAAAUCCAAAGUUUUGCUUUAAACCCCUUAGAAUCACUUUGAAUGACCAAUACAUGGUAAGCUUCAGGUCUUUAUGGAUGCUUAUUGCUAGAUUCAUAUUAGUCCAUUAGUUAUCAUGUACGAGUCAUUGGAAAGUGAUUCAAGGUGAAGACCCAUAGUGUCUUAAGCCAUUAAUGGACCUUGACUAUCAUUUCUAUUGAUCUUUUAUGGAUUAAAUCUUCAUUGUCAAACCUACACUGGUUCGGGAAAUAACUAUAGGUUAAAUCCCCAAUGCGAGGAGAAAAAUCCGGAAUUUUCCACUUUCUAUUCUGAACUUGAUCCUAGCAACCCUUAGCUCCGGGAGACUUUCUUUCUUCCAUUUUUAAUUAGUUUAUGUUAGUUUAGUUUCAAACACUUUCAAAACAAAUUUUAUUUUCUUUUAAACUUUAAGUUUUUGAUCAAGGAAAUCAUUAAAUCCAAUUUCUAAUUUUGAGUAUAUCACUGGUAGAAUGAAAACCCAUCCCAGAGUUCGACCCUAGAGCCACUAUACUAUAGUAGCUUUGCUACGUUAGUAUGAGGUCAUAGGUUUUAUAAAUGUUUUUGAUUAAAUGACCCGAUUGGAGUUACACGCGAAUCAAUAAGGUAUCUCCACAAAUCAUAAAUCUAGUGGCUAACUGUCUCAAUGCUCUUCGAUCCUUAGCUAUGGCUACCUCAAGAUAUGUGCCAGAUCUAAGAAACUGAUAAAUGUCAUGAUAUCAAGGUAGAUCAUCCUGGACCUCUGUCUCUCCAAUCAAACAACAGUAGGUGGGUGCAGACCUCAACUCAAUUAGCAAUGGAUGUACUACUACAUCAAUCGGAAUGUCCAUAGAAGAAGCUAGGGUAGCUAAGGCGUUAGCAAACUGGUUUUGCAAUCUAGGAAAAUGAACAUAUCUCAAGUCAUCAAAUCUCGCAACUAGUAACUCCAAGUAAGCGUGAUACGACCUAAGCUUCACAUCUCUAGCCUUCCAAUCUCCUUAAAUCUGUCUGAGUACCAAAUUAGAGUCACCAAAUACCUCAAUUUGUCUAAUGCCAAGCUCCAAUACAGUCUCUCAACCAAGGAUACAAGCCUCAUACUCAAUUAUAUUAUUCAUGAUAAGUGUCAAUCAAGGAAUGCCAAACAAAUAGACCUCGAAAUGUGAUCAUCCUGAGGGGAUACCAACAAAACACCUAUCCCAUACCCUGAUUGAUUAGCUGCACCAUCAAAGUACAUGCACCAUCCUGAUAAGCUAGUCAUAACAAUAAACUCCUCAUCUAAAAAAUCAUCAUCAACUGGUCUAUCCUUAGAUGUCAGUAGUGAGGCUAAGUGAUUGGCGACAAUACUUCCCUUAAUAGACUUUUGAGAAACAUAUUGAAUAUCAAACUCUGUCAAAAGUACGAGCCAUCUCAUCAGUCUACUAGUCAAUACAGGUCUAUCAAAUAGAAAUCUCAAUAGAUCUAGGCGGGAUAUCAAAUGCACUGAAAUCUUUGUCAUGUAAUGCCUCAAUUUCUUGGUAGCCUAAGGUAGUGCUAAGUAAAGGUGCUCAAUCAUAACAUAUCUCAUCUUAUACUCUAACAUCCUCUUACUUGGAUAGUAAAUAGCUCGCUCCCUCCCUAAGUCAUCAAGCUGAGCUAAAAUACAUCCUAAGGUCAUGUCUGAAACUGACAAAUACAAAAGAAGUGAAGGUCCCAACAUAGGAGGCAUUAGAAUAGGAGGAGAAAUCAAGUACUCCUUGAUCUUCUCAAAUGCAAGUUGGUAAUCAUCAUUCCAAAUUGUUGGUGAUUCAUGCCCAAUUGGUGUCUCAGCUGAUUUGUGUCCAGCUGCUGCUCCUUGAUUGAGGGAGUAAUCAACAAAAUUUGUAACCUAUAACACCAUAUACUAGGGUAGCAAAGAAAAAGCUACUAUAGUAUAGUGGCUUUAGGAUCGUCCACUGGGAAAGAUUAACAAGCUCUCAAUGAUACCAAUUCCAAGUGAAUUGGUUUUGUUUCAUUUCAUGGUUAGCUUAAGAAGUAAAACACAAACUUUGAUUGGUAAAGGUUUAGACUUAAACUAACUAACAUAACAGAAGUUUGGAAUAAUUUAGGAAGAAAAGCAUUCCCUGGAGAGUUAGGUUCACUGGGGUGGUUCCUCAUGCAAAAGACAUAGCUCCGGUCAGAUGGUUCAUUUCCUCGCGUUAGAGAUUCAACAUAUAGUCAAUUCUCUAACCGGUAUUGUACAGAGACUCCUUCAAUUAGAUUUCACUUUAAUUCUCUCACUGAUGCAACUUGCAAUGAUUUAAGCCUCUCACUAAGCCUUAACCAUUCAAGGUGAUCUUUAACCUUGGAUUACCCGUCAAAAGCUCGCAAGAGAUAACUAAUGGAUGUCUCCUAGGAGUCCAAAAGCUUACCAAGUGUUGGCUAUUCUAGAAAAUCCUACCUUGAAGUCACCUCCCAGAGGCUCACAAGGGGUAAACUAGUGCAUUUCCAUGGUUGGAAAUCACUUGCCUUACCAAGUGUUGGCCGAGGUGACUCUAAGGUGUUUUAAGUUAACUAAAAACAUAGAAAUCACUAAAGGAUUUCACUUCCUCUUCAUUACUAGCUAAAACCACAGAGCUUUGCAUUCUUGCACUUGGAACCUUCCCCGGCAACCUUAGCUCCAAGGAACUAGAGGUUUAGUUACUCAUUCUCUGGGGAAAACUCCUCAGAGAGUUCAUAACUUAGUAAGAAAAUGAAAAUACAAAGUGAGAAGGUAAGGCAGUAGAAAGAAAAUAAACUUUACUUGCUUACCCAAACUUUUACAGAAGGAACUCCUCCCUGAGAACAGGCUCCCGAGAGGUAUAUAUAUGAACAUAAUAUAAAACUAAUUAUUACAUAGAUAUUUAGUCUUUUUACUAACUUAAAAGCUAAGGAAUCAUGUAAUUGGUGGUUUACAAGGAGUAUUUUGGGAUUUAGACAACAAAAAUAUGAUGGAAAAUAUCUCCCAAUGUCGGUAGCAAAUAUCGGGAGGCUUCAAGAAUCAUUUCGCAGGAGAAAAAUGGUGUCUGCGAGAUUUCGCAGACACUCAAGAGGGCUGCGAAAUAAUUUCGCAACACCAAGCUAUAUUCACAGGGCUGCGAAAUUGGCUUCCACCUUGAGGUUCCCAGCUUCCUUCUCGCGGCAUAAAUCGGGCAUCGUCAGAAGGAGAAACAUUACACUGUUCAAAAAGGCUGCGAAAUCACUUCGCAACAAAAGGGUGAUUUCGCAACACUUUGCAAAAUGCUUCCUUCAGCUAGGAGUGAUUGGCUUGUAAUGGCUGCAACUUCUUCGUUUCAACUCCGAAUUGCACACCGUUUAAAGAAUUGGAUUGUUGACUUCUUGAGCUUUGAAAUGGUAUAUAGCAUGCAUCAUCUGGACUUCAGAAAGUGCUCUAAAAGUGGUUGUUACGACUCUCAUCAAGAAUAUGCUUUAUGGCAGAUUCUCUUUGCUUUUUUCUCCUUGCAAUCCGGAUUUACUCUUGGCAAAUGAUUUCUAAGCUUUGCCCAAGAUUCCUUAUAGCUCUCCUCAGUCUUGACUUGCUUUGGUGAUCAAAAUACUAACAAAAACACCAAAACUUACACAAAGUGAUCAAAAUUGUUUUCAAGGGUCCUUAACAUGCCAAUUGAGUUAAAAGGCCAAAACUACUACUCAAAAGUGUUUAAAAGGAUUAAUUAUAAGCUAUCAAAUAGCACUUUUUGAGUAGUAAUCAGUUGGCUGAUUCUUUCUCAAAAGACGAAAAAUGGGCUCACAUAUGUCUAUCAAUCUGGCUAUGAAUCAACUGAUAUACUGUAAUUUGCCUAGAAAACCCCUGAUAUCUUUCUUAGUCUUUGAUACAAGCAUGUCAAGUAUGGCUUUGAUCUUAUCUGGGUCGACCUCUAUGCCCCUCUCACGAACCAUAUGCCCCAAUAAUUUCCUAGAAGUCACUCCAAAGGUGCACUUCUUUGGAUUCAGCCUCAAUCUGAAUUUUUGGAUUCUCUCAAAGAAUCUCUCUAGAGCUUCUAGGUGAUUUGCUCUGCCUCAGGAUUUCAAAAUCAUAUCAUCCACAUAAACUUCAACAUCCUUAUGCAUCAUGUCAUGAAACAAAGUAGUAGCAGCCCUCUGAUAAGUGGCUCCUACGUUUUUCAACCCAAAUAGCAUAACCCUGUAACAGUAGGUACCCCACUCAAUAAUAAAGGUUGUCUUCUCCAUAUCCUCUAGAGCCAUCAAAAUCUGAUUAUACCCUGAAAACCCAUCCAUGAAGUCAACAUUGAAUGGCCUGAGGUGCUAUCAACCAAUAAAUCAAUAUGAGGGAGAGGAAAGUCAUUUUUAGGGCUAGCUUUAUUAAGGUCUCUAAAGUCAACACAUACUCUAACUUUGCCGUACUUUUUGGGAACAGGGAUGACAUUAGCCAACCACUCUGGGUACUCAACCACUGAUAUGAAUCCAACACUGAGUUGUUUCUGAAUCUCCUUUUUCACCUAUAGACUCCAACGUGGAUGCAACCGUCUUAAUUUCUGCUUAAUUGGUUUGGCAUGUGGUGUUGAACUAUAGAGGGAUCGAGGUUAGGCAUGUCCUCAUAAGACCAUGCAAAGACAUCUAAGUAUGACCAGAGUAAAUAAAUAAGUCUAUCCCUCUCAUCUGUAGAUAAGGGUGAACCAAUCUUCAGCUCUCUAGGCUAAUCCUUUGUGCCAAAAUCAACAGUCUUAACAUCCCCUGUAACUGGUGAAACUCUCUCAUCCAUGGGGUUUGAGUCAUGAUAAAAAAAAGCCUUUAUCUAAAUAGAGCUGUGCAAUCUCAUAAUUUAUAUCCAAUAUCUGUGGAGUGGGUGAAUAGGGUACAAAUAUAGAGAUACUAUCAUAAGAGAUAAGAAAAUACUAAAAAAUACUCAAAUCCAUAAAUGAAGCAAUAGAAACAUCGUCAGAGCAGGAGACAAAUCCUGAUAAAACAUCAAAGAAAAGAUGUGGAUCCACAAGGUUGGACGCUCCCUUAACUGGGCUAACAGUGCCCUCAAACAAACUACCAUCAUCCUCUAGAACCUCUAGAGCAGGAAUAGUCUAGGUCUCCUCAAUAACCUCAAUAGUAGACACCCCAAACAUAUCAAAUGGUGAAACUGGUUGAAGCUGAACAAUGUUGCUGAUCUGAAUCAUGGUUAUCAUGUCCAUCUCAUCUCGGUACUCAUCAUGGAGAACAACUCCAUUAAUCAUCUCAGUGGUAUCGACGACCACUCCCUCAUCAAUGACCUCCUUUGGGAAGCAUAGAAACAACAAACUAGCUCGAUCUAGAGACGGAGGAGCAAUUUCCAUAGAAAUAGAAGUGUCAGGAGCCCCAUCACUCAAUUGUGACCAGUGAAAUAGAUGUUGAAGCUCGAUCUCUCUAUCUAUAUGAAUCACACUAUCAAUCUCCUCUAGACGGGGUUGAAUCUCUGAUCCUUUGACAAAGUAGUUGGUCAAACUUAUCCUAUAAGAUCGAAUAGGAUAAUCAAAUGGUGUGUGAGACAAACGGGCCCUCACUCUCUCCUUGCAUAGUCAUGCCAUGUAUCGGUAAUCAACCUCACUAGGAAUGAACCCAAGUUCAAAUGUCGUAUCAUGGUCAAUGGCAGUUAUAAACUCACUGGGUCCCUACUGAUGUCAUUCUAACCCCAUGCCAGGUAGAAAAGUCAUACCCCUCAUCAUAUCAAGAAUCAUUGUGUGUUGAUCAAAUGACAUGGCUACAAAAUCUCUACAAAAAUCCUCAAUCUCAAGAGUUCGUAUCUCAUCAAAAGUAAACCCAGUUAGAAAUAGGUCAUCCUCACUGUGAUUGGUCUGAAGUACUGGCUCAGAAGAGGCUAACAUAUCUCAGAUAGACUAUACUGUGAUGACUUGCCCAUCAUGAAUGAACUUCACCUUCUGAUGAAGGGAAUAAGGAAUAACUCAUGCUUUAUGAAUCCAUGGUCGGCCUAGUAGCAUGUUAAAAGAUGUAGGAAUCCUCAAAACCUGGAACAAAGUAGAGAAUGUGGCUAAACCAAUCCAUAAAUCAAUCACUAAGGUACCCAUAACCUCUCUCUUGGUGCUAUCAUACUCUCUGACUGUCCAAGUAGAGGGACCAAAAUCCGAAGGCGUGAAACCAAGGGCUAUAGUAGUGGUUAAAGGGCAGACGUUCAGGGUUGAGCCAUAGUCUAAUAGGACAGAUGGAACUCUAUGGCAUGAACAACCAACUAUGAUAUAUAGAAGGCGUACAUGGUCUGAACCAUCAGGGGACAAAUCAUCAUCUGAAAACACAAUGCAAGUGGCCUUGCUGGUCGUCAUUAUAUGAAUCAAUCCCUCUAGAGUGGUUGGGUUCUCUACUCUGAUCUGACUCAAGGCUCGAAUCAAAGCAUCUCUAUGAGUACUAGAUGAUGCUAAUAAGCUCCAAAUAGAAAUACGAGCCUGAGUACUAUAUAACUAUCUCAAAACCUUAUCAUCAUCUCUCUUAACCUCCUUAUGAGAGGCUACACCCUCAAAUGGUUUGACUGCUAGUGGUGGUGGUGGAACUAUCCUCCCACUAAGAGUCACAAUCUGUAUCUCUUUUUCCUCUAAAUCAUCAUCCUCUAGCCACAAAGUGAAUGGGACAGUGAUAUCCUAGUAUCUGAUAACCAAAGGUGUAGAAUGAACCAACUAGAAUGGCGCCCCAUCUGGGAUCAAAUUGAAUGGUGCAAGAACCCGCAGACCUAAUAAAACCCCAUCAACCUCACUACUGUCAUGCAGAACAAUUGGCUUGGGUAAUCCAUCAUCCUAACUCAACAUAUGUAUACUGUCAUCCUCUAUAAAGUCUAUGUGAUGGAUAUCUCUUGGAGGUGGAGGCACUGCAUGUGUAGAAUGGGCGGGAAGAGGGUUAGUGGUCACACUUGGCUGCCCCAAGUUAACCAAACCCUGGUCUAACAAGUCCUGUAUAGCAUGUCUCAAAGCAAUGCAAUGGUCUGUAUCAUGCCCUAUACCCUGAUGGUAGGAACAAUGUAAAUCCAUCCUGAAACGAGGUGGUAUGGGCUGGGGUAAAGGCCUAGGAGCUAACUGAGUCAAUAAACCAUCCUCUAUGAACUUGUGGAAAGCUCGGCUCAAAGACAUACCUAGCUGGGAGAACUUUCAUGUCGACCUUUGUACAUAAGUAGUGGUCUGUGGGGCUUGGGGUUGAGGGUAUGACAUAGGAGGUCUCUCUGUGAAAUGUGCAGAAAAAAUAGGUUGUGAGACUGGAUGUAGAUAAUUAGGAAUGAUGGGUCUAGAAGGAGCAGGUGGUUUAUACUGCACAUGAUGUGAGGGUGGGUAAUAGAAUCCAAAAGUCUACCCAACUGUCUGAUAAAGUAUAGGAGGUCUCAUCCUUGAUGAAUUGAUAGCACUUACAUCUCUUGGUCUUUGUCCUCCUGAAGUCUUCUUCCCCUUAAAGUCAGUAGGAGAAGACUCGGGCCACAAUCCUCUGGCAAUGCCCUCCUCUAUACCAUACAAAGCCGGUACCAAAGAUCCAAAAUCCUUAUAGGGAAAUCCCAUCAAGUGUUUAGCAAAUCUAGGCUGCAAACUCCUCAAAAUCAUACUAAUCUGAUCCUUCUCUGAAAGACGAUCAAUAAUUUGUGAAAUCUUCUCCCUCUAACGGGAGAUAAAUGAAGUGACUAACUCCUUUGGCCUCUGUCUCAAUGCCUCUAGCUCUCUCCUCGAAACAUCAAUGAUAGUGUUAAAUGAAAAAUGUCUCAAAAACUCCUGGGCCAGAUUAUCCCAAGUCCUACGGCGUAAUACACCCAAUGAAGCGAACCAACAUUAUGUCGCACCACUCUAGAAGAUAGGGAAAAGCAUAACCAUUUGGGUCUCAUCUAGUCUGUGGGUCCUCAUAACCGUACUAUAGAGCCUCAAAUGGAUACGAGGAUAACCUAUGCCCAUGUAUCUCUCAAUCUCAAGCAUCCUAAACUUGGUCGGUAAACUGGCCAAUAGUGCUCCAUCAAAAUCCUCCUAAGUAAUAACUAAUUUUGAAGCCCUCAUUUGUCUCAACCUCUGCUCGAGUCUAUCCAUACGUGUAUGUGGGUCCUUUGAGGUCGGGAUAGGCAAUGUGAUAGGAGGUGGGGCUACCUCGGUCUGACUAUGCAGAGUGAAAAGUAUAACCUAUGGUGUUGAUUGACUGGGUGGAGGAGAUAGUGGAACUGUGGUAUCGAACCGGGCACUCUCCUAAACUGGGACCUGUUGGGCCUACUGCCCAUCUAUCAUUUGGCCAAGAUUAGCUAUAGCUUCCUGGAUCAAAGCCAUAACUGCAUCAAAAUGGUCAAUGGUAACUAUCUAUGAGUCCAUAUCUCUCUAAUCUGAUCUCUGAUCUAACUGGUCUGAUACUCUAUUCAAUCUAUCUCCAACCCUAAUCCAUGAAGGUGAAUCCAGAUCGGUCACAGUAAAUCCUCCUACAAAUAUGGAAACACUAGAUAAGGUGCAGUAUGAAUGUGACUCUAUAGGAAUCAACUGACAAGUGCAUAAAAGUAUAGCCCAAAUAUACUCAAUCUGAUACCCAUCUUUGAUCACACCAAAAGGAGACUAUGGAAGGGAUAACCGAACCUAAUCAUGACCAAGACAACUCUAAAGGUCCACAGAUGCACCUACGUGUAGGAAUGAAAUCUUAAUUGGGUCUAGGUUAACUUACAGGGUGGAGAUGGCUCUACAGGAUAAAAUGGGUGGGUUAAAGGAUCCCUAGCAGAAGUUAUCAUACCCUCCAAUGGUACGCAACCCUUUGCACGCCUCCAAGGAAACUAGGUACUUCCAUGCAAGGUGGUCAUCACCUCCACACAUGCACUUCCUCACUUUCCCAGGGGGUUUCUUAAAGGUGAAGGCUCUCUCAUCUCUCAACACUUAGGGACAAUGUAAAGUGCACAAUGAAGGAUGUGGGUGCAUCCGAAAAACCUAAGAUCUAAAGUGAGAUAAGGAACAAAGAUAAACAAUCAUACAAUCAUGCAAGAGAAAGGGUUAUCAUGCAACAAACAGUCAUGCGAAGCAAAUAAAUAUCAAACAAUCAAAGUUUUAUCUAUCAUAUGUGAGAGUGAAUCAUGCUGAAGUGAGCAAGCAAUCAAGUGAUCAUCCUAGGCAAUCAAACAUGUUAAGAUAGCAAACCCAACAAGCAAGCAAAUCUAAUCACCUUGUCCAAAAAGGGGGUACCCUCUAAUCGACCAAUUAAACGCCACAUUUUCCUCAAAUAGUGUACAAGCUUGAUCCUAAAACUCCCCAAUGGAGUCACCAAUUUAUGGACCUGCAUUUUUCAUGUGUGUCCCCACUUGAACGGCGAGACUCACUUUUAUUUGUGAAAAAUUAAUUUUUGGAAAAGUCGGGGUUGCCACUUAUUUUAUUUUUAUUAUAAAGGGAAAAUAAAACAAGAAAGAAAACCCUAAAAAGUAACUCCAUAAUUUUUGGAAAAAUCGUGUCUUUGAAAAACCCGAAUCUAGGUUCGGGGAUCAGGUUACCUAUUGGGAAGGUACUUCUAAAAGGUAGCACCCUUCUAAGCCCUAUAAAGGUCUCUACUAACUAAGUUGAGGGAAAUAUGGCAAUUAACUGGUUAAUCAUGGAUACCUAAGUAGGCUAGGUGAUUUUGAAAAAUAACAUGCUUAACAAGAAAAUCGAUCACAAUCAUGAAGAAUAUUUAGGGUGCGUACAUGGACUGCUUCUUAAGCACUAUCACAAGACAUCAAAGUUAGUUCAAAUAGUAUGUCAUCUAGCAUGUGUUUUAUUAGAAAUAAUCGAACAAUGAAACAUGUAUAUCAAAACACUCAAUCACUAUAAAAAAUAGGCAUAAUUCACAAUGACAAACAUACUCAUAGAAUAUAGAAAGUGGGUGAUAGGGGACGUACCUGGAUAGCAUAGAUAACUCAUUAUAUGCUUCCUUUGGACAUGGGGGUUAGGUAAUAAAUAAUAAAAUAAGAAAUCCUAGCAUGCUUAAUAUCUAAUUAGCAUAGCAAAAAUGAUUACAAUAUACGAAAUCAUCAAUUAUCACUUAUAUCUUGUAUAUAAUUCCUAAAAAAUAAAUAGACAAGAUUACAACAAAUAGCAAAGGUGGUAGAAAAAAUAAGUUUUGAAAAGAUUUUCUUAUGUAGGGGUUUCACCAAUUCCUCAAUCGAUAUACACAAAUUUAUCCUAAAAUUAUCCAUUCAUUUGGGACCACAAGCUUUGAUUUGUGUUUUGUUCAAAACCAAAAUUUUUAUUGAAAAUCAAGAAGGAUGCAAACAAAUCAAGAUAUGAUUGCAUAUUAUUAAUUUUUUUUUUUUUUUAAAAAAAAAAAGAGAUUUUGAUUCUAAAGCUCUAAAUGAAUUUUCUUUUUGAAUAGAUUUUUUAAAGGGAUCUUUUGAGAAAAAGUGUUUUGUUUUAAAAUAAAAGAAAUUAUUUUUUAAAAUAACAUAACAUAGAAAACAAAAAUACCAACCAAAACAAAAGAAAACGGAGAUCACAAAAUAAAGAUUUAGACAAUCAUGCCAAUUAAAAUGGUGAGAGUAAGGCCAACCUUCAUGGGUUUCCAACGGCCUUAAAAAAAAUAAAAAAUUGACUAACAAUCACUAAGGCAAAAAACGAACGGCUUCCUAAUCAAACAAACUAACAAAAAUAUUAUCCAAAACUAACAUCUAGAUUUCAAGAAACACAUAAUAAAAAAAAGAACAAUCAAAGAUUAAAGCCAACAAAUUUAGCAUAUGGAGAUAAUACUACAGGGUCAAUUAAGGUAAAUUAACAUUCUAACAAAAUAUGAUAAAUCAAAGACCAAAGUUUAGUAAUCUUAAAAAUAUGAAAAAAAAUAACAUGCAAUUAACUAGAUUGACUAUCCAAAAUUCCUAAAAACUCGAACUAAAUAUUAAUAGAUCAAAACCAAAAUAUGCUAUACUCAAAAUAUGAAAAAUAAUAUGUGAUUGACUAAAUUAAUUAACCGAAACUCUAAAAACACUAAAACCAAAUAUUGAUGGAUCAAAAUUAAAAUUGCCAUAUUUAAGACAUGAAAAUAAUAACACAUGAUUAACUAAGUUAAUUAACUAAAAUUAUAAUCAACUACAAAAUUGGAUAUAAAUGGAUUAAAAUCAAAAUUAACGAAAUCGGAAAAAACACAAACACAUUCAAACUGAAAAAAAAAAAAUUAAUACUGGAUUAAAUUAGAACUAAAAACAUCAACAUCAUCUAAUAAGAUUGGUUAAAAUAUCAAAUUGAAAUUUCAAAUACAUUUAAACUAGAACAAAUAAAUAAAUCAGCAAAUUAGAACUAAACUAAAAUUGGAAUUAAAAAUAUGAAAUUCAUCUAAGAGGAGUAAUCAAAUAAUUAAAUUAACACCAUAAAUGCAUUCAAAUUAUAAAAUAUUAAAAUUAAACUAAAUUGAAAUUAAGAUAUAUCUAAUAAGAUUAUUUAAACUGAUGAAUUAAAAUCAACAAAUACAUUUAAGCUAAAAACAAAUUAAAACCAAACCAACUAGGAUUAAAAACACAAACUUUAUUUGACAAAAUUAUUUAAACUAAUGAAUUAAGAUCAAUAAAUGCAUUUAAACUAAAAACAAAUUAAGACCAAACUAACAAGAAAAAAAAAACACAAACAUUAUUUGACACGAAUAUUUUAACUAAAGAAUUAAGAUCAACAGAUGUAUUUACACUAAAAACAAAUCAAAAUCAAACUAAUUGGAAUUAAAAACACAAACUUUAUUUAACAUGAUUAUGUAAACUAAAGAAUUAAGAUCAACAAAUGCAUUUAAACUAAAAACAAAUUAAAUAAAACUAAUUGGAAUUAAAAACACAAACUUUAUUUGACAUGAUUAUUUAAACUAAAGGAUUAAGAUCAACAAAUGCAUUUAAACUAAAAACAAAUUAAAAUCAAACUAAUUGGAAUUAAAAACACAAACUUUAUUUAAACUAUCAUACAAAUUAAGAUAAACUAACAUGGAACUAAUAAACUGCAAUCACUAAAAGAAGACAUCUAAUUUAAGAAAAAAAAAAUUAUACAAACUGAUAUUCAAAAGAAUUUAUCACAAAAAAUUGAUUAAACUAACAAACUAAAGUCUAAAAAAAAAAAUGCUCUAUCGAAAACGAAAACUACCCUGUGUUGUGUCUGAACUUGAUGAUUAAAGUGGCAACCCGAUCUCCGUUCGAAGUCCCUUGCUCUCUUCCAAAAUUCCGCGUGUUCUCUCUAAAAAAGAUCCCCCGCGUGUUCUCUCAGUCUCAAAAAUUCUCUUGUGCAUGUCAUUUCUUUUAAAAAAAUAUCUACGUGCUCUCUUUGCCAAAAAAAAUCCUCCCUCCCGAAUUCCUACACAUAUCCUCUCUAAAAAAAUUACUCUUGCUUGUCGAUCUCCAAAAAAAUCUCCCAUCUCUUAUGUUCCUUCUAUCUUAUUUAUAUGGUAGCCCACCCUAUGGAAUAUUUUAUUUCAUUUUUUGAGAUGUAAUUCUAAUCUUAAAGGAGACCCAACUUUCUAAACUUCUAAUGGCACUUUCUAUUUCAACUGACUUAAUAAAAGAAACAUGCCAACCCUAUGAAUGUUGUCUGGUGGGCCCUUGGUCAUAUUCCCCUUCUCUCUUCCAACCAACAACACCUAUAACUAGUAAAGUUGCACUGGGGACUGAUUUAUCUGAAAGCUUGGAUGAGAAUGGAGAUCAAACUCCUUCUUGGGUAAUGUAGAGCUUCAAAAUUUAUGGAGAAAGAUUUUGUGGAUAACCAAAGUCCAUGAUUUCAUCCAAUAGCUCAUAAAUUAGAACAAAGUUGUUACGAAUAGCAUCUUCCUUGAAAGCCCCACCAAAAUAAGAUUUGAAUAGCGCAACAGCCUCAACAACAAACUUGAAUGCACAAGUUACAUUAGCAUUGCUACUGACCACAAUCACAAUGUACACAUUGUUGAUUUUCAUAUAAAAGAAGGAAAAACCUCCACUUUGCUGCAUAGGACAUGUGCCAUGUUCUUUUGUUUGCAUUUUAUGCAUUCAAAAGGCAUCUAACAUGUUUUCCCCGACAUCGUCGCGAUAUAGGCGAUUGAUGAGGACAUCGCUCGGGAGAUUCAAGAAGUAGAUAGCAGAAGUAGCCACCGAAAUCUCUGAUCCAAUGGAUUCGAUGCCAAACAAAUCAAGGAAUGGGGUUUCGAUCUACGGUGUUUGAGGCCUUGUUUCAACGAUGUCAUUUUUAUUGGGUUGGAUCUCAAGCUCUAGAAAUGAUGAACCUAACUCUCCUAAACAAGAGUUGAAAAUAGCGCAAUUGAUCUUGUGUUCUAAAUGCAGUGUGGGCGAUAACUCUGGCAGAUCUGUAACAGCAUCUAGGGUUCCGAUGUGGGUGAGGUGGAGAAAGGGGCAACGAUGGUGGUGGGGAUUCACGAUGGGGGGAGAGGAGAGUGGCAAGAAUGUUCUUACCUGCGUUAUCGAAGCAGGAGAGGAGAGCCCUGGGGGAAGGAUUGCGAUCGAUGAAGGAGGUGAGAAUAUGGGUUCUGUUCUCGACAACGGUGCAGAAGGAGAAGAUGAGCAAAUGUGAGGAUAUCAAGCAGCGAAGGUGGAGGUAGAGGAGUGGUCAUGGCAUGAGAUGGAGUUGUGAUGUGAGUCUUCUAUUUCUGUCUUCUUUGUGAGUGUAUAUGGGUCCCCACCUUGCGGGCUGCUCCUCUUCAGUUGUGACCCCCCUCUCUUUGAUCGAUCCAAGUGAUAUGCAAAACUAAAAAAAAAAUUGGAAUAAGAAAACCUUAUGAUUGGAAAUAUAAUAAAAUAAAAUCGAAAAUCAAAUCAUCUGCCACAAAAAAAUCUAAGAUGUCAAUUCAUGGAAUUAAAGAAUAUAUAAAUAAGUGGGUAAAUAAACAAAUAAAUUGAUAAGGGUAUACAAAUAAAUAUUAUACAUAUGCAAUUAGAAAAAAUAAAGAAAUUAAAUUAAUGCGAUGGAUCAUAACAAUUUAAAUGUCACACUCAAACCAUCAAAAAUAAGAAAAUAUUCAUUUCAUGCAAUAUAUAGUUAAGCCAAUACUCAUUUUGUCUCGCAAAAAUAAAAUCAAGAACAUGCCUAAAUGAACUAUGCCAAAAGAAGUGUCCAAGUGACCUAUUCUAAAAAAGUGCUUUGGUGAGCUCAGGUGAAUGUGUGCAAGCUGAAAGGUGUUUAGGUGAAUCUAAAUGGGUAAAGGAGAACCUAAGUGGGCCUAAGGUGGUGCCUAAUGGGCCAAGUGUAUCUAAAUGGGCCUAGUGUGAGACUAGGUGAGCCUAACAAAGACUAACCUAAAGUGCACCUAAGUGAAACUUAAUCUAAACUUGAAGGACAACCAAGGUCAUAAUAUGGAACCAGAUAAACCCCUUAACCAAAGUCUCCAAAGUGGCUCAGAAAAGGUAAGCUCCAAGAGUAGGAAUGGGCUAUCAAAGAAACACUGUGGAACACUGGAAGUGAACUUAAAGACAUGUUCUAAAAGGACAAAAUGGAGGGUCUACAACAUGAAGGUUGGCCAUACUCUCACCACUUUAGUCGGCUUGGUUGUCAAAAAUUUUAUUUUGUGAUUUUGUUUUCCUUUGGGUUACCUAUGUUUGAUCCUUGAGUAUUGUCGUUUGUAAAUUAUUUCUUUCAUUUUAAAAAGAAACAUUUUCUCAAAUUGUUCCUCAUUAAAAUGCAUUUCAAAAAUUCAUUUAGAGUCCUUAGAAUCAAAAUCUCAUUUUCUUAAAUAACUUGCAACCAUGUCUUAAUAGAUUUGCAUCUUUCUCAAUUUUCAAUAAAAAUUCUGGCUUUGAGUAGAAUACGAAUCCAAGUUUGUGGUCCUAAAUAAAUGGGAUAAUUCUAGGCUAGAUUUGUGUAUAUCAAUUGGAGAAUUGGUAGAACCCUUACGUAACAAAAAAUUUCAAAACUCUUCCUUGCUACUAGUUUUCACUCAACCACUGACUCUUUAGCUUUCAAAUUUGUUUCAACAACUUUAGAAUAUAUAUAUUUUUUUUUAAAUAUCCAAAUCUUGUAUGAUUUUUCUCACUUCUUGAACUUGAAUUUGAAAUUUCGUUUGAGUUAGAAAGCAAUUUUGGAAUAGAAGAUAUAAAUGAGUUUUUAGGAGGGCUCUGUUUUCACCUAGUUCUGGACACUUGAAAUAUUUUUCUAAAAAUAAAAUAACAUAUGACUUUUUUAAUUUGAUUCAAUAUUUUUUCUUAAUUCAAGAAUUCUUGAAAUUGAUUUAGAGAUAUAAAAUAUUUUAAAAAAUAUGCAUUUUUAAGGCAGAUAUGAUUUUUCAAAGUCAUACCUAAUGCACAUGAUGGAAUCUAGACAUCUAAUUAGUUGGAGUGUUUCAAAAAUAUUUUUGAGUACUAUUCGACCCUAGAUUUAUUUUUCAUGUGCUAUAGACCUUUGACCAAUGUGUGUGAUUUUUUGUAUGAUUUUAUGUGAUCUUUUAUUAUUUUUAAAAAAUUGAUUUAUGCAUGCCACUUUUUCUUUACCUAACCUACACUUUGUGGAACUUUUGGGGUGUCUUUGCUGCAAUCUGUCAUUUGAAUGAGUGUUUGGUUUUUGGUAUGUUGUUCUAGAAUUGUAGGUGUUGUUUUCUAAAAAUUUUUGUAAUUAAAUUCAACUCCAAAAUAUUUUUUUUGAAAUUUCUUUUUGAUGCUUCAUUUUAUAAUUGCAUGCUAAUGAUCUUGUACAUUACUCUAGCAUUUUUGGAGGAAUUUUAUAAAUCGUGCAUGUUAUCUAGGUACACUUUCUAUCACUUACUUUUCAGAAUUCUAUGACCAUGCAUGUUGUUGUUAGCCUUAUUUAUUUUUGAUUCCAUCCUUGGGUGCCUAGAUGUUUGUUCGAUUUGCUCAAAUAAAAUACAUUUCGUGUGCUAACUUUAAUGUCUUAUGAUAGUGCUUGAGAGGCAGUCCAGGUACACAUCCUAACCUUCCUUUGCGAUUGUGAUUUGAUUUCUUUUUUGGCAUGCUAGUUUUGAAAUAACCUUAGCCUACCUAGGUACCUCCAAUCAAUUGAUUAAUUGUCACUUUUCCCUCGACUUAGUCAUUAAAGACCUCUUUAGGGCUUAAAGGGGUGCUACCUGAUUCGUGCCCAGUUAGGUAUUUUAAUAAAAAAUAUUUAUAAAUCCUAUGACCUCAUACUAGUGUAGUAAAACUACUAUAGUAUAGCAGCUCUAGGGUCGAACUCUGGGAUGGGUUUUCACUCUACCAGUGAUAGACUCAAGAUUAGAAAUUGAAUCUAAUGAUUUCCUUUGUCAAAAACUUAAAGUUUAAAAGAAAAUAAAAUUUGUUUUAAAAGUGGUGUUUGAAACUAAACUAACAUAGAAAUAGGAAAAAAUGGAAGAAAGAGAGUCUCCCGGAGCUAAAGGUUGCUAUGAUCAAGUUCAGAAUGCAAAGUGGGAAAUUCCGGAUUUUUCUCCUCGUAUUGGGGACAACAACAUAAAGGAUGGUUGUUUCCUGAACCGGUAUAGGUUUAACAAUGAAGAUUUAAUCCAUAAAAAGUCAAUAGAAAUGGUAAUCAAGUUCCAUUAAUGGCUUUAGACACUAUGGGUCUUCACCUUGACCCACUUUCCAAUAGCUUGUACAUGAUAACUAAUGGUCUUAUGUGGAUCUAGCAAUAAGUAUCCAUAGAGACCUAAAAGCUUAUCAUGUAUUGGCCAUUCAAAGUGAUUCUAAGGGAUUUAAAGCAAAACUUUAGAUUUAAAAGCCAUUUAUGAAAUCCAACUACCUGUAUUUAAUGCACGAGAGUUUUCCACUUUUGCAUCUGAACUUUUCACCUAGCUUCCUUCACUCCAAGAAACCAAAGGUUUAGCCUCUCAUCCUCUGGGAAAACAUCCUCAAAGGUUGUUUGGCUUCCAAGAAAAAGAAAAAUAGAAGAGAGAAAAGGAAAGCAAAGAGAACUCUGUAUUUCUCCCUGAGAGGAAAAUUUUACUAAGUGUAAAAAAUACAAUAAUUUGAGAGAUGAUUUCCACCCCUCUUAAAGUCUUUACAAAGCAAAGCCUGUGAAAAUUACAAGGAUAAGAAAGGAAUUUACAUCUAAAAAUACAGAAGAAAAGAUCUCAUGUGGAGUCGGCAGAACAGAGGAGAUUUCGCACCAAAGUCGCAUGAACAAUACAAGGUGCAAAAUUCGCACUUGCAUGGGCUGGUGCGAAAUUCGCACUUGCAUGGCAUUUUCGCAUGAACAGUACAAAGUGCGAAAUUUGCCAUUUUUAGCUCCUUAUACGAAUGGCAAUAUACCACUAUAGGUACUUGAUUUGUCAGAAAUUCCAAGCCGGUUUCGAAUAUGGGAUUCUUGAAAUGUGAUUUUGCACGAUGAACAAAAUAGAGCCUCCCAAAGUGACAGUGCACGGCUACAAAAACUGCUUCUUUCCUCUGUUUUUCCUCUUUGCUUCUCUCCUUUACUUGGCUUGUCUUAAUGAUCCAAAAAACUGUCAAAACACUAAAACUAGCCACAAAUAUGAUUAGAAGUCAUUGCUAGGUCCUUAACAUGCCAAUUGGAAUAAAAAUGGAGAACUACUACACAAAAGUGCUUAAAACAUAAUGAAUUAAAGGCGCAAAAUAGCACUUUUUAGGUAGUAAUCACUACCUCUUAGAGGUACCUUCUUAAUAGGUAACCUGAUCCCUAGACCAAGACUUGGGUUUUUCAAGACUUGCUUUUCCAAAACAGUGGAGUCACUUCUUUAGGGUUUUCUUUCUUGUUUUAUUUUCCCUUUUAAAAUAAAAUAAAACAACUGGGGACUCCAACUUUUCCAAAACUAAUUUUUCACCAAUAAAAAAAGUCUUACCAUUGAGUAGGAACACACGUGAAAAAUGAAGGUCCAUAGGUGGGUCUUAAGGGAAUAGAUGGAGAAGUUGGGAAUUGAGGUUAGAUUUGAGGUUAAGGUUAAGGUUAGAGCUAGGGUUUCAUCUAUGGAUGGUAAUGAAGAUACAUAUAUAGACAUCCCUUGCAAAAUCUACCAAUAUGAUUAGUUUCUACUAUAUAAUCAACUGAAAUUUGAAUCAAUUCUCCUUCUCAAACUAUGAUAAUAUGAUUUUAGAUGGUUUUUUAUAAUGAUUUCUUUUCCUUUCAAUGAAACUAUAGAUCAAUUCUAUGUUACAACCCGAAUAAAGGAUCCUUAGGAUCCCUUAAUCUUUAGUUUCUAUUGCUAUUUAGUUUCUAUUUAGAUUAGGGAAUAAAGGAUCCCUAAGAUCCUUUAGUCUUUAAUUUCUAUUUAGUUUCCUAUAUAAAAUAAGAAGAGUGUAAUGGGGAAAGAAAUGGAAAAAUAAUCUCAAUAAAAAAAAUUUGUUCUCUCAAUUUUGCAUCUUCUCCUUUAGUCAUAAGAAUUGGUAUUAGAACACGGUCUAGGCACCAAUCAUGGCGGAAAGGACUAGAGUGUAAGAACAACAUAGACUUAAAGAUACUAUUAAAUAGUUGAAAGAAUCGUUGGAUAAACAAGCGACUACCUUAUUAGAACUAUCAAAGAUGGUUGCAAUCAUAAAAUUGAAAUUCAAACACAUAAAUUCAAGAAUAGAGAAGUCAAGUAAUGGAUAUAGUGUUUCAAUCAAUAGAAACAUGAUAGACUAUCACUAAUCUAUCAUAAACUCCAUUCAAACCAGAUUUUCCAAACUCUAUUUUCCAAAUUUUAAAGGUGAGAAUUGGGAAUUAGGAAAAGGUUGGAUUGGCUUCCUUACAUUUAAAACGAAGGGCCUUAGAAAGGUUUCAAGGGUAUGAGGCUAGUAACAAGGAAAUCAAUUGGACACAAUUUUAUAUAGAUGUUGUUUCUAGGUUUAGCCCUAGUGUUUAUGAUAGCCUUAUGGGGCAAAUAACCAAAUUGAAAUAGGUUUCUAAGUUAGGGCAUACCAAAAUUAGUUUAAAGUAUUGAUGACCAAAACUAGCUAGUGGGUUAUCAAAGAAAUUUUUUUUCUAGUGUUUCAUUAGUAGCUUGAAAGAGGUAAUUAAAAAUCAAGUAACUAUGUUUCAACCAAUCACACUAGUCCAAACCAUCAAGUUAGUCUUGUUGCAGAAAUGAAUAAUGGAGGUAAUUCUCAAGGAAUUCAAGGACUCUAACGAAAAUGGGGAGAGUACAGUGAGCUUUACAAGAAUCAUAAUGAAUCAUAAUAACAAAUUACCACCCCUUCAGAAGAUUUUAGACGUAGAAGUGCAAGAGAGAUGAAAAAAAAAAAGUUUUGUUAUUAUUAUGAUGAGAAGUAUGAGUCUAGUUAUAAAUAUAAAAUGAGACAAAAUUUUCUAUUAAAUGGUCAAAAAAGUGAAGGGAAAGCAACAUGUGAAGCUAAAAAUGAUAUAAAGAUGAUGAUCUUGUGGUUUUAAUCAAUGCAAUAUUUCGUUCAACAUCUCAUCAAACCAUGAGAAUCUGUGGCAACAUAAAAAAGAAGAUUGUCACCAUACUAAUUGAUUUAGGAAGCACCCAUAACUUCCUUGAUCUCAUAGUGGCCAAAAGAACAAGAAACUCAAUACAAACUACCAACCCCAUGAAGAUGGUGGUAAAAGAUGGAACUAAAAUUACUAGUGAUGCAAUUUGUAGGCAAUGUUAGGAUAGAACCCUUAAAAACAUGACAUAAUGUAAUAGAUUUGGAAUUCAUUGUUUAUUUAAUGAUGCCCCAGUUUCACUUUUAUCUAUCCUUAUUCCAUGUAUUAUACUUUAUAAGCAUUUUUGUAAACAUCAUUUGCAUUAUACAUGACUUAGAUGCAUUAAAAGUUGUACAGAAGAUCUAAGUCAUGAGUUCCUUGCAAAUAUAUGACUUAUUCACAACCAAUUCAUGGGUCUAGGCAACCCAUUAAAGGUUUUAGUGCACAACUUCCUAAUUGGAGGAAUGAUUGGUCUUGGCUAUUGGGAUGGGUUUCCUAUCAUGAGUGCACUAGUAUGUAUGAAUGCACAUUGGAUAGGACCUAUGGUGAGUUAUGACUUAAGGCUAUCAAGUAGUCAUGAUUUCACCAAGUUACUUCAUUAUGUUGUUUCUUAACCUUGAGAGAAUAUUAAGCUUGUAUUGAAAUUAGCAGUGGCUUUGACCUACGAGUGAGAUAGUAAGAUGAUCAUAUAUUCCUUAUGGAUUGGACCAUUGUUGAUGGAUGUCGGUAGCAAUAAGUAUUCUCAAUAGAAACACCAUGAUAUCUCUUAGCAUUAAGAUAGUGUGUCCCCUUGGGUGAUCCUAAGAACGUAUGUUCAUGGAAACUAUGGCCAUAGUAGUUCCUUAGAUGGAACUUGGCAUAGGCUCUUUCAAAGCUAAGAUAUGUCAAUUUAACACACAAUAGGAGGAUUUGUAAUUCAAGGAUGGUAGAGGUAGUCUUAAAAGACUGAUAGCUUUCACCUUGUUAAACUACAGACACUAAUUCAUAGGAACAUUGAACACAAUGGAUAGUAGGUCGUGGACUCGAGCACUUGGUGUCUCAUUGUUAUUUACAUAGGAUAUUGGAGUUCAAUUUAUUCUUUGUGUGGAAUAUUGAAUCCACUUUAGAAUUGGAUUAUGAGGGAACUGGUAUUCUUAUGGGCCCUAGUGGUCCCUACUUUGAGUUCAUAUACCUUGUUGACACGGAUUAUGAGGUUUGGAUUGGCUUUAGGUUCACUUUUGUACAUAAGGAUAUUUUGGUAAUUAUGCAAGGUUGCACAAAAGUAAGUGAAUAAGUUCUUUGGAUUGCGCUAAUUGAUUAAUUAGUAGGCCUUGUUAGGUUAACUAAUUAAUUAGGACCCAUUUUGGAUUAGAUUAAGUGACCCAAGCCCUUAGUGGACUCAAGUCACUUAAGCCAAGUAGGAAACCCUAUAAAUACUCCUUUAGGGGUUAAGGUUCCCAUUGGUUUUUUCUAGAGAUCCAUCUUCCAUCUCUAGAGAGAGAGAGAGAGAGAUUCAUAGCCUCUACUUUUCCUUCUGUCCCCACUGGAAGUGUGUCAAGAUCAAGUUUUGAGUCAUUGGGUGGAAAACUUUGGGUUUACAAGACUUCUAUGAUUUUGUUCUUCAUCUUCACCUCAUUGAUUUGAUUCGGGAACAUCCAAAUCUAAGGUAUGGCUUUCGUUAACACUUUAUGAAUCCCUUUAAAGUUUUAAAAUGCUAUUUUUUCGUUGUGCAUAGGAUUUAGAAAAAAGACUAGGAUAGUUAUUCAUGUUCCUAACCUGAUCCGAGCUUAGGAAAUGAAGAGAUUCGAGUUUUUCCUAUAAGGCAAUUGACAUGGAACAUGCAAGGGAAGAAAUUUUAGAUAGAUUUGAGGCUUAUACCUUUGAGUGGGUGUAAUAUGGUAUUGGGAAUUCAAUGGCUAGCUGAAUUGGGACUCAUAUUGUGGGAUUUCAAGAAUUUAAAAAUGGAAUUUAUUAUUGAUGGAAGGAAAUUCGUGUUGAAAGGUACAACUAUAGGUUCCAAGAAGCUAGUUUCAACAAAUCAAAUUUAAAAGGAUUUAAGGCAUAUGUCUCAAGUAUCUACAAUUCAAAUUUUCACUAUACAAGGGAAUGAGGAAAAUAAAGUUGAAAAGGAAUAACAUGGCAACUGUCUAACUCAUUUCCAAAAGAUAUAACAUGGAAAGUUUCUUACAAGAUUCAACAAAAGUUUUCAUAGAUUCAACCUUGAGGACAAGGCUUCUUUUGAUGUGGAAAGGAAUGUUACAACCCCAAAUAAAGGAUCCCUAAGAUCCUUUAAUCUUUAGUUUCUAUUUCUAUUUAAUUGGAGAAUAAAGUAUCCCUAAGAUCCAUCAAUCUUUAGUUUUUAUUUCUAUUUAGUUUCCUAUAUAAAAUAAGGAAAGUGUAAUGGAGAAAAACAUGAAAAAAUAAUCUCAAUAAGAAAAAUUUGUUCUCUCAAUUUUGCAUCUUUUCCUCAUAUCAUAAAAUUCUACAUGUGGAUUUUCUCCUUUUGAAGCUCUAUAUGAUACAAAAUUAAUUCUCUUUUACUCAAAUUCCAAGUAUGUAUUUAUAGAAAUGGGUAUGCUUUGACUCUCAAUGAACACAUUUUCUCAAUUUUUCUUCCUACCUAAGUGGAAAUAACAUAAGGCCAUUAAACUUGCUUUGAGAUUAAUUGUGGUUUUGACAAGCAUUUCAUCUAUAAUUCAUUUAUGCAGAACUAGGUAUAGUACAAGACCUCCUAAACAAAGUUUCUAACAGUAAUGAAUUGAAAAGAAGCUGGGUAAAACAAGUUUCUACUCACCAUCCCAAACAUUCCUUUAGAUGUAUUGUAUGGUAGAGGAUUAUUCUUUUAUUAUUAUUAUUAUUAUUAUUGUUAUUAUUAUUAUUAUUAUUAUUAUUAUUAUUAUUAUUAUUAUUAUUAUUCUUGUUUUCUUUUCCCUUUUAAUGGUUUAUAGUAGAUUCAAAUGCCAUUAUAGAAGUAGAAUUUCCUAAUUUAAUUUGUUGGACAAAUUUUCUUUGGUUUUACUAUAUUUUGUGUUUUGAAUACAUACAAAUCGAAAUAUAAUAAGAAAACAAUUAUAAUGUGUUUUUAAGGGGAAUUUUUUUAUCUUCUAUUAGCAAAAAAAAUAAAAAUCAACAAUUAUAAUAAUAUAGACAUUUGCAAUUUUUUUAAAAUGUCUCUGUUAGGACAUUGAGUUUUAUUUGUAUGUUGGUAAUUUUGUUCCAAUUUAUUUUUUGCCUUAGAAAUCUUUUUAGAUAGUGACUUAAUUUCCAUUGAAGAUCAAGGAUUGCUACUUGUCCAAUUGGAAAGUCAUAGGCACGUUUAAAAGGUUUGACUUGUGGCAAAUUGGGGUUCUAAAGGGUAUAAAUAAGAGCAUUAUUCUUUUUCUGGGACUGCUCGAGCGCUUAACUAGCACUCGAAUGCCCAAGGUGCUCAAGCAAUGGUUAAGUGUGCUUGGCCUCAAGCUCUCGAGUGUUCAUGCCGAUUCUACCAAAGAUUAGCAUAAUAUUUACAAAGAUUUCAUGCAAAUCCUAUAUGGAAACCUUGAGAUACCAACUCUCUUCAGCCUCUAAGCUUGUAUAUACCCCAUUAUGCCCAUUCUAAGGUUAGGAGAUUGAUUUAUUGUUGCUACUAAGAGAGAGCCUCCUGGAAAGAAAGCAUAAUGAGCCACACAAUUCCUAAUCUCUCAUUUGAAGGAUUCAUUCAAUAAUCUAGGGUUGAAAACUUGCAUCCCUUCAAUAAGGCUAAAGAGUAUUCAGUGAAGCAAUUAGAGAUUGUUGUAUCAUAUACGUGGAUGAAGUUGUAGGUAUUGGAGGGUAAGCCUUUAGGAUAAAACAACCAGGUAAAUUUGUGUAACUUGAUCUUGUAUAGUGGAUUUUGAUUAGUAGUCUUAAGCCUUGUGGUUUUUUUAUCUCCACCGUAGUGUAGGGAUUUUUCAUGUAAAAAUCAUUGUGUCCAUUGCUAUAUCUUGUGAUUAUCAUGAUUGUUUAGAUUCUAUUUAUCUCUAAUAUUAUCUCAUAGGGUAAAAAUUGAGUAUAACAUAUAAUCUUUAUUUUAGAAUUCUUUUAAUUACACCCAUUCACCUCUCUCUUCUCUUUGGGUGUUACCCUACUAGACUUGGCUUUUUUAGUCUCAAAAUCUAUAUUAGCAUUUUUUUUUUACUUGAGUUAUAAAUGGAAAAAGUUAUAAACUCGAGAUAACUUGUUAAAAAAGUAAGAAAUAAUAAAAGGACUUGUGUUAGAGCAUAAAUAACUAAUCCAUUCUAGGCUUAAUAUAGCUCCAAUGUCAAAUAUGAAUACUUAAUUAUUUAUUAUAUUUUGAAAAUAAAGUAAGUAUUUUUUAUAUAAAAAAUAAAACAACUUUUCUAGAACAACACAAGGCACUAAUGGAUAUAGUUGGUAACAAGUUGGAGAAACAAAAUAAUGUGGAGAAAUAAAACAACAUGUAGAAAUAAAACAACUUGGAGAGAAAGAAAAUGACUAACUGAAAAGGAAAUAGAGAAAUUAUAGAAUGUAAGAUAAUUACACUUAUUUUCAUAAAAAUAAUAUAUUCUAAUACAUUAAAUAAGAAUUAUUUUCCCAAAAAUGUACUCCCCAUGAAAAUGACUUUUGUGGGUUUUCUUUUAUUUAUAUUUUGUAAAUAGUGCAUAUUUACAUAAUUCCCUCAUAAAUAUAAUAUAAUAAUCUAUACCUGAUAAUUAAGGAAAUUGAAAAUAUUUACAUACUAAGCAAGGAUAAUGGAAAUUAAAGAGUAUGUCCAAAGAGAACAAAAAUAUUAAAGAUAAAUUAAAACUCUAAAAUACAAGCCUUAAUCUACACAUAUAGGCCAACAUCUUAGGACGUAUUUGAUUAAAUAAUAAUAAUAAUGAUUAAAAAAUAGAAAAAAUUAUGGGUCCCAUUUUUUAAGUGUUUUCAAUAACAUAAUUAUAAACCCCUUAAAAUUUAAAAUCAUUUAUUCAAACCACUUUAUUCAUUUAGCAACAAGGACUUAAUUAAUCACUAAGAUCAAACACAAUGAUUUAUAAUUUUUAUAAUUUUUUCUUCCAUUACUAUCAUUUUCUUUUUUAAUAAAAUGAAGAUUUCUAUUGAUAAUUUUUUUAUAAUAAAAUGUAACUUCUUUUAAAUUAAAACAUUUAUUAUUAAAAAAUUUAUUUUAAUUCAUCUAUGAGAUUAUUUUAACGAUUUUUUUUUUAGAAUUUUAAUAAUUUUUUUGUUUCAUAGUUAAAGAUAAAAAAAUUAUUAUUAAAUCAUUUUAUUCAUUAUAAAAUUUAUCUUUCUUUUCUAAAUCAGAAUUUUUGUCAUGUCCAUUCAUAUAAUAAAAUUAAAAUUAUAAAUAAAAAAACCUAAUUUAAUUGAUAGCACCAUGGAAUCUUUCCAUGCACACUCAUGCAGCCAUCAGUUCCCACAACAGCCACGUGUCUUCCAACGAGUAUAUUCCCUUUCUUUGGCUCUCCAUGUGUUUGUGUUCUAUUUUUAUUUUUUUAUUUUAUCUUAAUUAGUAGUUCACAUAACAAGCAUGACAAGGAUGAGUAGAUAUGUCACUUCUAACACUAAACCCACUUAAACCAAAGUGAAGUAUGAAUGCAGUAUGCAAGUCUAAAUAAUGGUGAAAUAAUAAAAACAACGGAGAAUGCAUGUAAGAUGUGUAUAUAACUAUAAAUAAGGAUUAAAAAUGAAGGGAAAAAUCAUUGAGAAGGGUGAACCAUGGGUGAUAAGCCACUUAGUUCAUCAUUUGGAUAAAUAUUAAAAGUUAAAGAGUAUAAAAUGUCUACGUAUGUCAUCAUUUUUUUAAGUUAAAUAUAUUCUUAUUGUUGUAAAUUAAGUAAUGAAUGUCACCACAUUUAUUAUAUUAAAUUUUCAUUAAAAGCCUAUAAAAAUGUUUCCUAUCCUCUGUAAAUUUCAUCCUAAGCAAAGAAAGAAACUUUCUUUCUCUCUUAUUUUAUUUUUAUUUUUUAUUCUUCAUAUAUUUCAUUAUUUCAACUCUCUUAAUUCUCUUUUAUGAUUCCUUCCUUUCCAUUAUAUAUUAUUAUCAAAAUAAUAUAUAGUUGUUCUCUACUUUUAUUUGUGUUGCAUUUAUCCUUCUUUUACAACACGUUAUUAGCACGAAUUGCUCUGAAAGUAAUUCUCGUAUCUUAAACUUGAAGUUAUUUAUAUAGAAUAAAAUUUUUCAUAUUUAUAUUGCGAUUGUUAAAUUCAUUUAAUUUGUGUUAUAUAUUAUUAAAAGUUAUAAGCAAAUUAUUUGAUUUUGAUUGUAAUCAAAAGUCAUACCAAUGCUAUUAAUUUAUAACUAAUUCUAUUAAUAUUGUUUUGUCAUAUAUCUAAAGUUAUUUAAUAAUGUCAAAUCUCACAAAACUUGAAUUUGUGGCACUUGACAUUCCGAGAAAGAACUAUCCAUCUUGGAUCCUUGAUGCUAAAAUACAUCUCGAUGCAAUGAAUCUUGGAGCUACAAUUAAAGAAAGAAAUCAAGCAUCCUUGUAGGACUACUCAAAAACGUUGAUUUUCCUUCGCCAUCAUCUCUAUAAAGGUUUUAAAAAUGAGUAUCUUAUAGUAAAUGACAUUUUUACUCUAUGGAGUAAUUUGAAGGAAAGAUAUGACCACCAAAAAGUUGUGAUUCUCCCAAAAGCUCGAUAUGAUUGGAUGCACUUGAGGUUGUAGGAUUUUAAAACUAUUAGUGAAUAUAACAUAACUCUACACUUUUCAAAAUCAACUCUCAAUUAAAGUUGUGUGGAGAAAAAAUCACAAAAAAAGAAAAAACUUUACUAUAUUUCAUGCCUCGAAUGUGAUCUUACAGCAGUAAUACCAAGAGCAUAGAUUUAAAAAAUACUCUGAAUUAAUAUCAUGUCAUCUUGUUACUGAACAAAAUAAUGAGCUUUUGAUGAGAAAUCACUAGUCUCAUCCAAUUGGAUCUUAACCAUUCCUUGAAGUGAAUGCAAUAUCAUCCUAAACUCGUGGACAUGGACGAGGACAAGGAAAUGGUCGUGGUCGUGGAAGGAAUCCCCAAUAUAAUGGUUAUUAUAGUAAUAAUUCCUCAAAUCCUCAUAAAAGGAAAGCUUCAUUGCACCUCCAGAAGUGAAAUAAUAUUGAGGCAAAAUAAGAAAAUGGGAAAUGUUUGCAAGAUAAACCUCUAAAGAACCAUGAGAAUAAUUGUUAUAAAUGUGGUCUGAAUGGUCAUUGAUUGCAUACCUAUUGUAUACUCAAAAAUAUGAUCGACCUUUACCAAGCAUCAAUAAAAGCAAAAGGAAAAGAGAUAGAGAUGAACUUUACCUAUGGUGAUGGAUUGGACCUAACCUACUAAGACAUUGAUUUCUUUGGAGGUCUUAGUGAAAAAACACACUAUUUAAUAAAUGAUGAGAAUGCUAACAUUGAUUGGUGUUACAUUAUAUAUCAAAUAAUAUAUUAUUAUGUCUUAUAUUUAUAUCUGGUUAUUACAUUUUCUUUUAUAUUGUUAUUUAUAAUAUUAUGCCUUGUUUUUUUAAUAUUAGUUGCAUUUAAAAUCCAUGUGUUAUUUGGUCUUAAGAUGACUAAGGAUGAUGUAUGUCUCGUAGAUUGUGAAACCACAUACACAAUUCUUCGAGAUAAAAGAUAUUUCCUUGAAUUAACAUUGAUAAAAGCUAAUGUAUGUACCAUAAUUAGUAUUACAAACUUAGUUAAAGAAUCUGGAAUAGGAAACAUAAUGCUACCAAAUGGAACUAGAUUUCAUAUAAAUGAUGCUUUAUAUUCUAGAAAAUCCAUAAGAAAUUUGCUCAGUUUUAAAUAUAUUCGCAGAAAUGUACAUCAUAUUGAAACUAUGAAUGAAGAUAAUGUAAUUAUCUUUACAUUACUUCCAUUAUAUCUGGCCAGAAGCUUAUAAUUGAAAAACUCUCGGCUUUCUCCUCUAGGUUGUAUCAUACAACUAUAAAGCCUAUUGAAUCAUAUUUUUUCAUGAACCAGAAGUUCAACAACCCAAAAGUUUUUGUCUUUUGGCAUGAGAGACUAGGUCACCUAGGGUUUUCAAUGAUGCAUCAAAUAAUCAAACACUCACGUGGGCAUCCACUAAAGAACCUAAAGAGUCUUUUGCAUAAUGAAUACUCAUGUGCUGCUUGCUCACAAGGUAAAUUGAUAGUUAAACCAUCUUUUACUAAAGUCAUAUUUGAGUCACUAGUCUUUUUAGAAAGAAUACAUAGGAACAUAAGUGGGCCUAUCCAUCCACCAUGUAGACCAAUUCGUUAUUUUAUGAUCUUAAUAUAUGCUUCUCCUAGGUGGUCACAUGUUUGUCUCCUUUUUACAUGUAAUGUUGCCUUUGCUGGACUCCUAUCACAAAUGAUCAAAUUAUGAGCACAAUUCCAAUGUUAUCCUAAUAAGAUAAUAUGUCUUGAUAAUGUUGGCGAAUUUACUUCUCAAACAUUCAUUGACUACUGUCUAUUGGUAGGGAUAAAUAUUGACUAUCUUAUUGCUCAUACUCAUACCCAAAAUGGUUUAGCAAAAUCCUUCAUCACACGUCUCCAAUUAAUAACUCGACCAUUACUAAAGAAAACCAAAUUAUCUACUUCUGCCUAGGGACAUGCUAUUAUGCUUGUUGCAGCUUUAGAUCGUAUUCGACCUACAACUUACCAUUCCCUUCACAACUCGUACUUGAAAACAACCAAAUAUCUCACUUAUGAAUCUUUGGUUGUGCAGUAUAUGUACCAAUUGCACCUACACAUUGCAUUAAAAUGGGUCUCAAAUGAAGACUUGGGAUUUAUUUAGGUUUUAAUUCUCCAUCUAUCAUAAGAUAUUGUAAGAAAAAUUAGGCUAAUCCAACCUAAGGUAAUCACCCUAGAGAGGGUGGGGGGGGGGGGGGGUGAAUAGAGUGAUGAUCUCUUUUUGCAAAUUUAAAUUAUAUAAAUAUAAGAGAUAAUUAUAUGCAAAUAUAUAAUAAAACAAUAUAAAGACAAUUGCAUAUAAAGUAUAAGAGUAGGAAAGAGAGAAUGCAAACACUGGAUUUUUAUAGUGGUUCAGUGUAACCCAACUUACAUCCACUCUCCUCUAGCUUCAGUCCCAAGCUUGAGGUUCCACUAUUUCAAGGCUUCCAAAUCAAGCCUUCAAGCAAUAUAAUUGGAUUAUAGUUCCAAUACACGCUCUUGGAUUUUUGGCUCCAAACACCCUUUACAAUCCUUAAGAGAUACCCCACUCUUGAACAACCCCUCAUGUGAUACCCUACACUUGAGAAUUCCUAAAUGAUAUCACACAUUUAAAAUUUUCUUCUCAAAGAUUUACAAAUGAAGAUAAGAUUGAAAGGUGCACUAAUGAUAUGCAAGUUUUAGAACAAUGGUGCACUAAAAAAGACUCUCUCAAGGCUCAAAUAUAUUAAAGAAGGGUUUAAGCUCUUGAAACAAUGAAGAUUGAAACCUUUCUAUAGAGGAAAACGAUCAAACUAACCAUUGAAGGUUUGACCAGUCGAGCUAGGGGUCAACCAGUUGACUAGCCAUUAGCAUUUAAUGCUUAGUAGGUAACCGUUGGAUCUUGACCAGACCUCGAUUAGUUGAACAAGCGUUCUGGAAGAGAGAAAAGGUUUUUGCACCCGUCGACCGGUUGAGCUAAACAAGUCAACUAGUUCCUCAUCUGGUUCAACAGGUUGAGUCGUUUUUGGCUCAACAAUCAUCAUUUUCAACUUAAAACAUUUUAAACAAGUUUGAAAAACAUUUGACAUAAGGUUUUAGUUGAAAACAUGAAAUUAUUAAAUUUUAAAGGAUUUAAUACAAAAUUAAUUUUGGAUGAUUUUGGUGCAUAAAUUAAUAAUGUAAUGCAUAAAAGACCUAGUGCAUCAACAACCUUACAAAGAAAUCUUAGAAAGUUUAGGUCUUGAAAAACACUUCUUUUUUAAGUCUUUUUCUUCUUAUUGAUUACUCUUUGUCUUGAUUUUGUCUUUUUGAUUGACACUUUGGAAAUAUUCUUGCCUAAUCACACUUGAAAUAUAAUCAUUAGUGUCAAACCUUGUUUUAUUAUCAUCAAAAUCGAGAUUAACCAAACCUUGGUUUCACAAAUAUCUUGAACCUUUGACAGUCGAUGUUUUUAUAGUCUGCUUUGCAGAUUGUCAUUUUAAUGAGAGUGUUUUCCUGUCAUUAGGGAGAGAAAAUUCAAUUCCUAAAGAAUGGUGAGAAAUUACUUGGAAUGCAUCUACUAUGUUCCAUUUUGAUCCUUGUACAAAUCAAUAUGAACUAGAAGUUAAAAGGAUCAUUUAUUUGCAAAAUCUUGCAAACCAAUUACCAAAUUGUGGACCCCGCAUUUCGGCUGGCUCGAAUGCGUUUCCCACUCGAUGGCGAAACUCGAUUUUUAUUUGAAAAAUUGAUUUUUUAUUGAUUAAGAAAAAUGACUUGGAGUCGCCACUUAUUUUUGUUUUAUUUUUAAAGGGUAAACAAAAUAAGAAAGAAAACCCUAAGUGUGACUCCUGAUUUUUGGAAAAGGUGGUUUGUGAAAACCGGAUCGGGUUCGGGGGUCAGGUUACUUAUCGGGAAGGUACGGUAAAGACCGUAGCACCCCUCUAAGUCCCUAAAGUCGGGUCUCUACUAAUAGAAUGAAGCUAACAUGGCGAUGAUGAGGAAAUCAAUAAAUACUCAAAUCAAUCAUGCACAUAUGAGUAUCAAAACAUGCGUAUAGCAAGACCAGAAUAAGGACAGAUGCGUACCUGGGCAACGAUCUUCAAUGCGCUAUCAAGAAGUGAGAUUAGUGCACAAUUAAAGGAUGAUCACAUGCAUAUCAUAGAGCAGAAUAAAUCAUGUAUGGCACCCAAAUCAACCAAACAAUCCAUCAAUCAUAAAAUCUCAUAUGUUGGGCCCCCACCAAAACCCGUUUAUUUUUGCAUGAAUUAAUUCCGUAAAUUCCAUUGUUCGGAAUUACGGAAUUUAAAUUCAUGUUUAUUUUAAAACAUUUUAAAAACAAAGAAAAUGCAAAAGUGGCUUGCCGGAAAGAAAAUGGCAACCAAAUUUUAUUGAAAAUGAGAUUUUUGGUAUCUUAAAAAAAAAACGAAAGGUGAAAAAGUAGAGGAGCCGGGAUUAUUUGAAAAGAUGAAUUGAAGAUAAUAUUUACAAAACGGGACAUGGGGCAAUUGUUUUAAAAUCAAAGAUGAUGAAGAAUAAAAGAAAGGAGGACACGUGCCUAAGGCUGCAUGCAAAAAUACUUGAGUGGGGGAGUUGGUGAGGAAUGGUCGCGCAUGGAUGAAAUCCUGAUCAUAACUGUGCUUACUCGAUCAACUUGUGGAUUGGGAUCAUCAAAUUCUGAAAACCCUGCGUAAAACUCAAACCAUUGAAUGUACCACCAUCAAUCACAGCGCUGCUGACCUUCUUAAACAGCCCGUAUGGUGCCUCUAUCUCACUCACACUAAAUACUGCUUCCCUUGCCAGAGCUUCAGGAUCAUGAAGACCUCUUGCUUGAUUCUGCAGAGAAAACCUGAAGAGGAAGAGUGAAGAUGCCAGGGUACCUGAAAAUCCUCAUUAUCAAGAACAUGAGUGACAGCCUUUGCAGGCCUUUCUUGACCUUCUUGCAUUUCCAGCACAUGAGCAGCUGCAUCCCCACAACUCCCAGAUUUACCAUGUUUCCUAGCAUAGCAUGAAUCAUCAGAAUCACUGUCACCAGCACCUUCUUUGACCAUUAUCAAAUCAACCCACAGUUUCUCUUGUUUUUAGCUCUUCACUUCCGUCGUUCAGUGUAAAGCCAUUGAAAUGUUGAAGGCGCCGAGAUGGGGAAUAAGCUUGCAUGCGGGCUUAGCAACAGCCUGAUUUCCUCUUCAGUAAAUGAAACUAACAGCAGUAACCUUUAAGGGAUUGGCAAUGAGCAUCAAAUCCCAGCACAAGAACAUCCACCAGUUAUUUCUUCAAAUUUCCAUGAUCGAGGUGAACAAUGAUAGGAGUAUCAAUCCUGUACUGACAUAGCAGAGAAGAAUGAAAUCCAUUGCCAGUGAUAGUCCUCAACAAACUUUACCACAAUGCGAGAGGUGUAGCAGCCAAGGACUGGGGCAUAACCAUUUCCGAUUUUGGCCAUAGUGAUUCUUAGUUAUCAUGUCUGGAUGGCCUGGUGGAACCCUAGUAGAGACUCCAUUCCAACCACGUUUUCAGAUUCAGAAAACUCUGAUUGGAAAGAAACCUUAAGCCACACCUUGAAUUGAUAUCCAAACUUCAAUUUUUCACAAGAGAAUUUUGAUUCGCAAAAUCGGUCAAGUUCAUUUCCCUUCACUUCCCUGAAAAUCUGGAAGCUUCCUACAAAAGAUCCUCGUCUGAAGUCGAGAAGCUAGAAAGCUCAGAGAGGUUUUCCCCGUAAGACGCCAACCUCAUAUUGAGAACCUCAGUCUAUGAAUCAAGCUGCGUUUUCUCUCCUGCACCGUGCCGUGGAUGACUCCCCACUCUCUGAGGACACCAAAACUCAGGGAUGACACCCUCCGCACACCCACAUACCUCACCUAGCUUCCUGUAAAUCCCCUUCUCUAGCUCGCUUCCACUGCAUAAACCAUCUUUGCACCUGCUUGUGCUAACCAGAUCACAAGAAUGCCACUCCCAGUUCCUUUUCAAUCAAAAUCAAAUUCGAGUAACAAUUGAUCUCUCCAACCAGUUUUUCCUAUUUCAACAAUAUCUUCCGCAGCAUCAAGAAGAAUUUGGAGAUAUAUCAGCAGCCAUGGAUGAGAAUAUCUGUGAUUAAGACCAACUCGGUCAACAAAGGGAACCCACAAUUCUCUUCGCGUGAUUGCAUGGCUACACAGUCUCUGAGAAGCAUAGAUCUAAAUAGUGCACCAAACGCUUUCAUGCCUUACAAAGAGGCCACGUAGGAAUCGCCAAUACCCUGUGGCCUUGAUGCGGCUGCUAAAUGAGCUCACCACUCUGGCUGCUCGACAGGGAAAGCUGCUGGCCUGGGCACUCUUCACUUUCUGCCAGAUUGAAGGCUUACUUGAUGAAUGAGCUUCACGAAUGUACAAGGUGGAAAAGUGAGGGUGGCAACUAUAGGGUGUAAGAAAUGAGUAUGAAUGAGUCCUAUACCCGUGGGUAUAGUGAGAUAAAGCAUGAUGGAAUAGAAAUGGGCAGAGACAAUGUGGAUAUGGGACAUGGUGGAACGAGCAAAGUGGUUAGGCUAUUGAUGGUGAGCAGGGUACGGGUGAAGUGAUGUGUAUGGUGCAUGAGGGUAUAGUGAGUGGGCUAUGGAUGACAGAAUUGGUGAGAAAAAUGAGUGGAGAUAUGCUGAGUGUAAGGGAUAGGAAGGGUGAUGAGAAGUGGGUUAAUGGUGAUGUGAUAGAUAUGUGAAAUUGGAAAAUGAGAAAGGUGAUAGGUAAAAGAAAUGGGUAUGGAUAAUGGCCGGGUUUGCAUGGUUCCAUGCACAUGGGUAGAUGGACCUGGGAAGUCAACAAGGGCUUUAGAAGGAGCUUUGGACAACCAUGCAUGUGCAGAGGUAGGUAUCAAGGAGAAUUCAACCUCACUCUGAUCAUUUAGAACGGGCAAGUAUCUUAGCAGUAGCAUCCUUCAUAGUGGAUUUCUCUGCUCAUCUGGCAUGUACCAGAACGCAUCCAGCACCUUUAAAGAGUGAUCUAGCACCUUCAUUCUUCAGGAUCUGUGAGAAUGCAUCGAAAGAGCUCUUGUAUUUGACAGCUUCGCCUGAGAUCAUCAUCAUCCUUCUACGCGCUGUAUCUAUUGGGUAAUAAGCCAAUCCUGUACCUAUUGUGAUUCCUUAUCCCAGCAUGAAACUAGCCAAGAGACUAUCCCCUCAAGACAGGCCCUGGCGCAUAGUACAUCUCCACAUCUGUGUACAUCUGGGCAUAAUGCGUGUCACCCUGUUUGCGAGGCAGCUUAAAGCCUGGUUCAGGAUAUAUCAUUGUUUCGACAGGAAGCUUGUACAAUCGAUGUGGGCAGAGCCAAAUUGGGUAUACCUCCCUCUCAUGAGAUACCCAUUCUAGAGCAUCUACCUCGCCCAGAAUCUGCUCCACAAGGUAAAAUUUUCCAUAAGAAUCAUCAAAAGUAGGAUUGCUUCCUCCAGAUUAUUUCUCGGUACAUAUGAACCAUCCAUCUGAACAACUAAACUGGGUGGUGCAGCUGCAUGGAACAGUUUUGCUUGCAAUUGGGCAAUUCGUUCUUGCCUUUCUGGUGCUGGAAACCAUUCUGCUUCCUUUGGAUUCUCAUUUUCCACCUCACUAAAUAUAACCUCAGUUACACCCUGUUUGGACAUGCCAAAUUCGUCUUUCUAUGGUUCUGUUAGAAAAGCCUCUGCUUCAGGAGCUUUACCAAGUGAUCCUUUCCAAUGCGUGGAUACCUCUCCACUAAACUAUUGUAGCCUAGUGGGAACGGGAAGCCGUUGUCAUUUUCAUCCCUACUGCAUGCUCCACUCCUCUUGAAAUCUGACUCGUCUCGGUGCAGGGAGACACAGAGGCCAAAUCAACAUGAGUACAAAUAGAAGGAACCCCGACAAAGGUAAUGUGAUCAGGUUGAGUUCUUGAUUUGAAUAGCAGCCCAGAGAACUGAAGAGCCUCGUCAGCUUGGGCAUUCUGAACAUAACCAAUAAUUAGGGAAGUCCAUGGUACUAAAUCUAGUCUCAGCAUCUCAUUGAAAACAUGUCUUGUCUUCUUAAUAUUCCCACACAAUGUGUAUAUGUGAACAAGCGUACUAGCUGCAAAUGAUAACAGAUCAAACCCAAUCCUCGUCAUAUACCCAUGAACCUGCUUACCCAAUUCUUCCGCAACGAGUUUCUCCAAUCCAUAAGCAUCUUGAGACCCUCUUAACCCCCAUUGAUCAUGGAAAACUCAAGCAUGCCGAAGCUGAUCAUCAUAAUAACUGGAUGGUUGGACUACAUGAACCCCAUUCCUCCCAUAUUGGCAACAAGGUUAAACGCAUGGUCAAACCCAACAGUGACCUUCAAGCAGUUGCUCAUCACCUUGAAAUCAAUCAAGAUAGGAUUCAUGACAGAACACAUCUUCAGUCAUAGGCCCUCUCUUCUUCCAGUCAGAAGCAAUAAUGUAGUGGCCCUCCGUCUUCAGACUCCGAGCAAUAUGAAAGGCAAUAAAGCCAUCAGCACCAGUGAUUGAGAUCUGGAACUUUUCAGAUUGUUAGUGUGGUUCCUUCUCAAGCUCCUCAUAGGUGUACCCUUCGUAAGUGGCUCCAUCGGUACUUCCCAUUCUCCUCUGUUUUCUAAAAAACGACUGUGAAUACUUCCCCUCUCAAUAUCUUAAGCUUGUUGUCUUUCCACUUGUUCUACAAGAAACAUGGCAGUAUCUUGAAGAUUUCUGAUGCCAAGACCCCUCAAAGCAACCCCCGAUUUAGACAGCCAAACCCAAACAAGAUGCUCAACACUCCAAGAGAGAGAUAACAAGAACAGGGGAAAGAGAAUGAAGAAAAAUAAAUAAAUAAAUAAAAACAGAGCAUGCAUGAGGAAGAACGAUGCCUUGAAAUCCAAACUCCAUUUUCAUGAAUACUAAGAGACUUGCAAAACAAAGUGGUGGGAGAAUCUUAACACGCUAAUAAGUAGCGCAACCAUUGUAAAUACAUACAGAGAAAUAAAGAUGCUCAACAAGUAACAAUGAAAAGCAAGUUUAACAGCUUAGAUGACCAAAGCAAGCAUCCACUAUCAGUCGGAAACCUAGUAAUGCAGUAAUACUGGAGAAUUUAAAGUGAGGAAGGAUCAAACCUGAGCGGUUCCUCCCCUGCCCUGCUAACUUCCUCUCUCGGCUCCCCUCGAAAAACCUCCUCCUCCCUCUGUUUUCCUCCCAAAAUCUCUCUCUAACGGCUUGCUCUCAAACCACCCUCCUGCAGCCCCAGGUACCGUCCCCACUACCAUGCAGCUGGCAGCCCCAAAAGCACUCUCUCCUCUGCUCACCUCAACAACCUACAGCUUUUGCAGAUUCCUCCUUGCCAGGUGUCAAUCUCUGAUUGGCUUUCAAAAAAACUGUUCUGAUUCCAUGAUAGCUAAUCAGGGAUUGACACGUGGCCUCCUAGAAAUGCUCCAUCUGGCCAAAUAAGCUGCAACAAAUUCAAAAAGAAAGUGCUCCCAAAAUGGGGGUCUACAAAUAUGCCCCUCUUCGGUAGAGUUCACGAGUGUAAAGAACAUGAACACUGGAGUGAAAAGUAAGUGUGAAUAGUGAGUGCAAUGAAGUGAACUCUAUCGAAGAACCAAGGAGACCCCCAUAGGGACACUAGUGAGAUGUGAACUCACUCAGGCCAAAAGACAAACACAAAGGCUCUAAUCCUAAAAGAGAAAGAUGGGUGCCUCAAAAUGCCUCUAAAGCCACACUAAGGAUCCAAGCUCCCUCUAAAACGUCUCCAAAAGUGACCCGAAGAUCGAUGUCAAAGGUGAGUAACGGUCAAACCACCCUGGAGUACGAACAAGAAUGCGUAUAAAGGAGACUGCCCUAUGUGGACUACGAGAUGAAUAAGCGAUAAGCACAGGGUAACGAGGGGAGAGUGAGAAUAAGUGCAAAUCCAUGAAGGUGAGACGUGCAAUGCCAGAGAAUAUGAAUGCUAGGAGCUGUGACUUUGAAUGACGAGACUGACUCUAAACGCUAAACUAGAAAAAUAAUGGCUCUGGAAGCCAAACCAAAAAAAACUAACUCUAAACGCUAAACUAGAAAAUAAUAGCUCUGGAAGCCAAACCAAAAAGCUAACUCUAAACACUAAACUAGAAAAUAAGAAAAUAAAGCUCUGGAAGCCAACCAAAAAGCUAACUCUAAACACUAAACUAGAAAAUAAGAAAAUAAAGCUCUGGAAGCCAACCAAAAAGCGAACUCUAAACGCUAAAAUCGAAGGCGCAUAGGUGAAGACCUACGGUGGUGAUAAUAACUGAAACAAAGGCUCAUGGAUGAAAAUCCAUGAUGGUGAAUCUGAAAUGCCCAUAGAUGUCUGAUCUAUGGUGGUGAAAUCUGAAAUGCCCACAGAUAAAAAUCUAUGGUGGUGAUAAUCUCGAAAUGCCCAAGGAUGAAAAUCCAUGGUGGUGAUAUAAUCUCAAAAGCCCAAGGAUGAAAAUCCAUGGUGGUGAUAACUGAAUCAAAGGCUCAUGGAUGAAAAUCCAUGAUGGUGAAUCUGAAAUGCCCAUAGAUGAAAAUCUAUGGUGGUGAAAAUCUGAAACAAAGGCUCAUGGAUGAAAAUCCAUGAUGGUGAAUCUGAAAUGCCCAUAGAUGAAAAUCUAUGGUGGUGAAAAUCUGAAACAAAGGCUCAUGGAUGAAAAUCCAUGAUGGUGAAUCUGAAAUGCCCAUAGAUGUCUGAUCUAUGGUGGUGAAAACUGAAUGAAGGGGGAUGCCCUAGACAAACUAAUGGUAGGGGGAUGUCCUGAACAAGAUGACAAUAGGGGGAAUGCCCUAAACAAGAUGACAGUAGGGGGACGCCCUAGGUGAUAACUCAUAAAGAUCGACAAAUGCGUCUGACAAUCAUGAAAUCAGCACGAGACAUGGCAAACCCAAAGAGAGGGGAAUGCCCCAAGUCAAGCGCUAAAGGGGUAUGCCCCAGUGUGACGACUCACAAAGAUCAAGAAAUAGGUCGAGUAAUGAGAGAAGUCGGCAAAACGUCAAUGAACUCAAGGAUGGGGGUAUGCCCCAGUAUGACAACUCACAAAGGUCAAGAGAUAGAAUGAACAGCAAGAGAAUCUGCAAAAGAUCUGGUGAACUCAAGGAUGGGGGUAUGCCCCAGUGUAGGAUAGUAACUAACAUGAGACACGGAAUCUCACCAAACAAGACACUCUGGGAUAUGCUCAAUGAUGAUGCAAUGAAAAGGAUAUACAUAGCCUCAAUGAACAAACGCUAAAACAAGUCCAAACAUCACUGAAAUCAUGCUAACAAAGUAAAACUAAAAUAAUGGAUCAAACAAAUGCUGACCAAAACUCUAGGUCUGAAAUGGAAGCAAAUCAAAACACGACAUGUCAACUAUCAAUAUGAGUACAUCAUCACAAGUGCAUCAACAAUCUAACAGGCCCUACCAUCACGGAAGAUGUUGAACCUAAUGUCCAAAGGCAUGUGAAAGCUCGACCAGAAAGCCGAGACUAGCCCAUAUCUUCCCCUGAUCAAGAGAAAGGGAUAAGGUCAUGUAAGACGAUGAAAUAUGUGGGCUCAAAAGAUGUAAGGCUCUGAUAAGAUGGGUGCAGAUAUAAUAGUGUCCAAUGUAGGAUGUAUAGGUGUGUAACAAAGGAAAGUGGGUACCCAAAUCAAACUAGGUAUGCUAAGGAGACUGAGCCCAGGGUGCCAACAACUCUAUAAUCCAUCGAGAGCAGCGAUCAUAAACAAGAAAUGGAGUCUCAAUGUCAAAAUCAGCAAGGUGGCUAUGCCCCAGUAUGAAUGCAUCGUCUCAGAGUGGGUAAGCUCUCAAUGCAGAAUGAUCUCCGGAAAGUAAGUGUCUGGUAUAAACUGUCAUCUCACAAAAUCAUCGCCAAGACGAGUGGGGUAUGCCCUAGUGUAAGCAUCUCCAAAUCAAACAUCCAUGAGAAGAAUACAACCAAUCAUACCUCAUCUGAUCAAAAUGAACAUCUGCUCAUCAAAGCCAUCGUGGUAAUGUGAAGAGAAUAUCUGACCUCCCCCAAAGAAAAUAGCAUGUCCCAAUGUGAACAACCGCCAAUGAAAGGGUUAUGCCCCAGUAUAGGGCAAACCUUGAAAUGACUAAACUCCGCAGUAUGCUCUCAUAAGUGUCCGUGUCCUGAUCCAAUCAUCUCAAAAAUAUGUCAACAAUGAUGAGAAGGUUAUGCUCCUGUGAUCAUAUCAAAGAAAUCACCCGAUCAUAUCUCGUACUCCAAUGUGAAAUGAAUCUAAUCGCCUCCAAGGAACAUCUAUGCCUAAAAACCACCAUCGACCGAAAGGGGUAUGCCCCUGUGUAAAGUACACUAGAUGAAACGCGCCAAUCAUGUUUCAUGCUCCAAUGUGAAGAAAAAUGACAUCUGAUAUCCUCCAAGGAAUGGACAUGGCUCAAAAAUCUGUCAUCGACUGAGAAGAGUAUGCCUCGACAUAAUGGUCAUCCGAUAAUAAAACUCUCUGAGAUGGCUAUGCCCCAGUGUAAGGUCAUACCAUAACUCUCGGUCUGUCACAAUCAGAAUGCUCUCGAAUCAAUCUCAAGUAUCGCUCACAUAAGAGCUAUCAAACACAAUGUGUGAUGUCAUGGCCUCAGGGUGGUCUUAAGACUCAGGACGUAACGUAGGCUAGGGUGAUAGGGUGAUAGAAAUGAAGGGAAACUAGGCCCAAAUACCCAAUGAUCAAAACCCAUGCCCUCAUGUAUAAAAUGCAACAUGUAUAGAAAAUAUCGUGAGCCAUGGACCUGAAGAUGCCUACUGUGAACAUGGUAACAAUGAUGAUGCAAUGAAGAAAAAUCGAACUGAUGACGAGAUGUAUAAUGAUGGCGCGAAGAGGGUAUCAAACCCGAAAAUGAGGUCACUGUAAGAAUGGAAUAAGGGGUGGAAUGAAAAUGAUGAAACAGAAGUGAAAACGAGGAUGAUGAUGAAGCAUAGAAUACGAGAACAAGUGAUGAUCUGCUCAAAUCAAAUAUGAAAGGAAGUCACGUCAAUAACGAACAUAAUGAUGGAAUGGACAAUGACCCAGAGCUCCUAAGAGAAGGCCACUCAUCUCGCUCUCAAAACAUACAACAAAAUGAAUACGAAGAAUGAAAGGUCCCGAGGAGCUCACAUACGAACUCCCAUGAAUAGACAUAUCCAACAAAGCGACCCCUCGAACACUAAUAUACACAUACUGAAUGAUAGAGAAUAAUACACACAUGUGCCUCUUUUCUUUUUAUCUUUUUUUUUUUUUUUUUUUUUUCAAUCAUUUUUUUUUCAAUUUUUUUUUUUUUUUUACAUAUAUGCAAAUAUACAUGUUCUGAAUGCAAACCAAGAAAGACCCAAAGAUGGGAUCAAAAGUGAAUAAACAUGCCCUCAAAUAUCAAUAUAUCACAAACUCUCUCUAAUGAUGUGACCCUCUCAAGCCAAGGAUCCCUGGAUCAACGUCCGUAGGAUAGAUAAUGGAAAAUGACAUGACUACCCUCCAUGUAAUGAACUGAGGAUGAUCACCAUUCGGGGUGGGAGAAGAUGAAGCGAAACAAACGAUAGAUAUAAUAAAGAAGAGGAUGAAGAACCAACGAGAUGUCACGAAAUGCAAUGACGCAAUGAUAGGAAAAGAUAAUGAGAAAGAUGUGCCCCUAGGUCCAAGGCUCAUGAAACUCCUAAACAAUGCAUGCAUACACUGAAGGGCCCCUAUCCCGGUGUAGAAGGUGAGCAAGGCUAUAAGAAAUAAAAGGCUAUGAUGCUCAUGAGAGGCUCAAAGGGCUAGCAAUGGUCUAGAUGUCAAUAAAGGUAAUAGGGUGUGAGCUAACCGAAAUGAAGGCCACCCAUCUUACGACCACGGUCUCAAACAUCAUGCUAUCAAGCCCUCAAAUGAUCAAUACUAAAGAUCGAUGUCCAUCUGAUAUAACCACGUCAACCCUCUAGAAUCAUCCACCAACCGUACUCCAAAUGCAAAGUAAACUGUGAUCUCAUCAAGCAAUACUGCCCAUCACAAGCCAACUCUCAUCAUACAAUAUCAAUCUCUAUACUCACGAUAAGAUAAGUGACAGUCUCAUCAAGCAAUCGACCAAUCCUCAUAUCGUAAGCCACCCAAAUAUCAUAAGCCAACUCUCGCCAUGCCAGAUCAACCCUGGGCUCGAACUCCUCACACUCUACCUGGUCGAAUCAGAGAAGGGAUGUGUAAAGCUAGAAAAGCCGAGGAUGGAAAGGUCAUAUAACGGUCUCAAGGGUGAUGCUGUGCAAAGCUCGUAAUGGAUGGAUGUAGGUCAAAUCAAAGGCAAGGUGUGGGAAGUGAGCAAGGUACUGCUAUGAUCAUAAGAAGAUGUGUCACAGUCUCGAACUCCCUAGGUCAAAUCUCUGAUCCUAGGCUAAUAGGCUCAAUAUCCCCCAUGACAGGUCACUCCUCAAGACUACAACGUGCAAGUGAAGAAAUGCCUCAAGUAAAAAUCACAACACAUCAUAUCACAAGACACAAACACAUGUCCAUAAAGGAAAAGACAUCCAAUAGGAUAACCGAUGAGUACAUCAUGCAAAAGAAGGAUAACAAAGACAAUACUCAAGAAUCGAGUUAUAGUCUCUAAAAGUCAAAAUCAAAACAAGACUAAACAAACAAAAACAAAAACAGUGACUGGUCCUGCCAUCACAUCUCUGGCCAUAGAAGGAACAAAAUCUGAGCGCCACCUUACCAAGGUAAGUCAAUCGCCCAAAUCAAUAAGAUCAGGGAUUGCUGGUGAAGGGGUGUCUGCAUGCAUGGCCUGAGCUGAGGUAGGUAUAGAAAACAUAUCGGACUGAGGAUGCCCAAAUAUACCAGAAUCAACAAUGUCCUGUAUGGCAUGUCGUAGAGCAGUGCAACGAUCAGUGUGAUGUCCUGCUGACUGAUGGUAUAUACAAUAUAAAUCAAGUCGAAACUGUGGAGGCACAGGAUCUGGAAGUGCCCUAGGAGCCAGAGGAGCCAAAAGUCCCAUGGCUUGGAACGUCUCAAAAACUCUGCUCAGGGGUGCGCUCAAAUCUGAAAAGUGUCUCCGACAUCGUCGAUGGGGGUGAAAUCGCUCCCGAGGAACUGUAACGACCGGAGGGCCCCGAAGCUGGGAUGGAGGUCGUGCCAACAUAGCCAAUGAAAUGGAUGAGGAAUGCUGCUGGAGUACUAAAUGUGGGCGAGGUCGUGGAUGCGAGGCACCCAAAGUAACAGGUGUCGGUGAAGUCAAGUGUGGCAAUGAAGGUAUCGCUACUCCUGGAGCUCCUCUCGAUGACGAUGGAUGCUCUGACAAAAUAAGCUCAAUCCUCUCAACCCUCCGUGUCAAAUCCACCAUCAUCUCAUAAAGAGCAGUAAGAGUAAUGGGUGUGAUCUCGUCCGACAUGGUGAACCUCAACUGAAGAAGUCUAAUCUCAAUGUGCUCUGUAUCAUAACCAUCAUACCAUCAAUAUCUGCUCGGGGACCAGUCACGACACUAAAACUGUCCAAGACUCUAAAACAAACACAUGCAAAAGACAAAACAAAGCAACACAAGAUGCUAACACAAGAUAACAACACAUAAAAUACAUGAUACGAAACAAUGAUAAUAAUAAAAUAAAAAAGACAAAAACAAUACCCAAGAAAACAACAAUAUCACUAAGUGAAAUGAGAGUACAUCAUGCAAAAUAAUAGGACAACAAAGGUCUACUCUCGAAGCACAAGGUGCGAACUCAAAACACUAACUAUAAAACAAGACUCAAAUACAAAAUAAAAGAGAACAAAAACUCAAACGACCAACUAACAAUGUAGUCCCAAAACACACCAACAAGGUAUGCAAUAUCAAAGUGUCUGGUGAAUAUCAGUGCCCUAGGUGUCCAAAAUGUGAUGGUAUAAGCCCGAAGGAGGAGGAACUGCAUGUGUGGACUAAGCUGGAAAGGAAUCAGUAGACAUAUCUGGACCAAGAUCAGUGUCUGUAGUCGAUAUGGGAAAGCUAACUGCACCACUGUCAAUAAGAUCUUGUAUGGUGUGACGCAGAGAAGCACAAUAAUCAGUACGGUGGCCCGCCAUCUGGUGAAAUGCACAGAACUCAUGAGCAUGAAAACGCGGAGGCAAGGUACUCGGGAGUGGCCUAGGGGCCAAUGGUACUAAAACACCAGUAGAUCGGAGUCGCUCAAAAGCUCUAUCCAAAGGUAUCCCUAAAUCAGAAUAAGUCCUCUGAUGUCGCCGAUGGGGACGAGACUGCUCAUGCCGUGGGAUGCCAGUCUGUGGACGCUGAAACUGAAAUGAAGGUCGCACCAUGACAGCAUGAGGAUGCGUAGAAGGGUACAACUGAACUGGAUGAGGAUGACGAUGCUGUAAAGGUGGGAAAUCACUCCUGGGUAUCUGCAAUGAUCUCGCAUAGGAAUGAUAACCAGGUCGUCGAUGCUGAAAGUCCGUAGAACAUAUGUCUCCAUAGCCCUCAGAUGAUCCACCAACUCUCUUUCCCUCAGUAUCUGGGGAAGGAAUAAUAUAUGACCAUAAUCCUCUAGAUAUGCCAUCAUCUACAUCGAAUAAAGCCUGAACCAAUGAUCUGAAAUCCUGGAAUGGGACCCCUGUCAGAUGUCGAGCAAACCUAGGAUGCAAGCUCCUCAAAAACAUGCUCAUCUGAUCUCUCUCGGUAGGUCGCUCAAUCAUCUCCGCAGCCUUCUCCCUCCAACGAGAGAUAAAAGAAGAAAUAGGCUCAUCUGAUCCCUGUCUAAGAAACUCAAGCUCUCUACGUGUAACGCUCGUAUCACCACCGAAUGAAUACUGUCUCAGAAACUCCUGUGCUAAGUCCUCCCAAGUUCUCCGACGAGAUGACUCUAAUGAAGCAUACCAUCUCUGUGUCAUGCCGCUCAAUGACAAUGGGAACAAAGUGAGCAACUGUGCCUCAUCUAGACCAAGGGCCCUCAUAACCGUGCUAUAAAGUCUGAGAUGAAUACGAGGACAUCCGACACCCGUAUAUCUCUCUAUAUCAGGCAUCCUGAAACCAACUGGCAGAGUGGCCACUGGCACAUCGUCAGGGUCCUCCCAUGAGAUCAUCUCAUCAGGGUCUCUCAUCUGUCUAAUCCUCCGCUCAAGUCUGUCCAUACGAGAACGAGGAUCCUCAAUGAUGGUAACUGGUGUGACAAUGGGUGGAGUGACAGCAGCCUGAUCCUGUGAAGUAGUAUGCGAAGUCGGUGUAGUUGGCAUCUGAACAGGUAGAACAGGUGGUGUCACUAAAUCAGAUGGCGUGUCCUCGAGCACUACGUGCCUACUCUACUGAGUAUCCAUCCUCUAGCUCAAACUGGUCAAUGCCUCCUGAAUCGAAACCACAGAAGUGAUAAGCUAACCAAUCGAAACUGACUGUGAAUCUGUCUAUAGCAGCUCAACGAUACGAAUCAACAUCUCUCUCACUCAACCCAGGGCACUGAACUAAGACUGGGACCACAAAUAGACUCCUAUAGAAGAGCCAAUCAAAACGACUCAAACACGACUCAUGCAACGACACGGGAUGCAACGAACAAUGACCAAUGCAUGAUACAACACAAUCCACAACAUGACAGGACGCGACACACAAUCAUAUGGUGACAAUCAAAAUUUGGAUAGACGAUAGAAUCUCUAGAGUCACAUGAGUGUCCAAUGUGAGACAACUACAAAUAUGACUAAAGAAUUUCUAUCGAUAAUCCAGAAAAUGAUCGAGGUGUGAAGAAAAUAAAUGGGGUGUGAAGAACAACACUAUCACGAGAUCGAUACUCAAUCUAUAACAAAACAUCCCUUGAUUUUGACCUUCAACUCGGGCUCCAUAGGAGAAGAAAACGAUAAGGUGAUCCAGGCGAAUCUCUCGAAAAAUGUGUGAAUAUGAAAAUAUGCCUUUCACCUUUCUGUAAUGAAAAUAUGAGCAUCGAGUCGAAAAUCGAACCAAGGAUCAAACAAAGAAUGAGGUACUGAGCCCGUGAUAGGUGUACAGUGCAAAAAGAUGGUCAAUGAACAUAUCCCAAAGUAUCGAGAAGUGACGACAAAGUGAAGAGGUGUGCCGAGCCAAGAAAUGAUAACGAAGGCCCUAGGGAGAAAACAUGCCAAACUCAUCGAGUGAAAAACACAAACUAAGGCGACAAGACGAAAGGUGACCCAACCGUACUCAAACUCAUACCGAUCUCCGAGCACUCUCAACUGGAGACUAAAAAGAGGGAGUGUCAAAUCCGAAGUGUAACCACAGAGGCUCUGAAAGCCCUCAGAUGCACCCACGUGUAGGGAGGGAGUCCUAAUCGAAGGAUCUACGGCUCAACCUAUGAGGUCAAGGUGGCUCUAAAUGGAUAUGGGUGGACUUUAAAACAUCCCUAGCAGAAGCGAUCAUACCCUCCGGCGGUACGCAACCCUCUGCACGCCUCCGAAGAGACGGGGCGCUUCCAUGCAAGGUGGUCAUCACCUCCACACAUGCACUACCUCGCAUCCCAGGGGGUUUCCUAUGGUGAAACCUCUCAAACUCUCAACGCUCAAUGGUCGACUAGAGUGCACAAUGAAUGGUGUGGGUGCAUCCGAAAACCCUAGGAAGCUAAAACAGAAGAGGAAACACACUGGCUACACAAAUAUCCAUGAAACCUAGCUCCGGGCUAUACAGGUCUUCAAUGAUCGGACUCCAAUCGACAUCAAAGUGUCGCUCUCCUCCAGAAUGCUCCCGUGCAUCGAUAUAGCCCGUCGCUAGACCCUACUCCUAAUCUCUGGCUCGGUCAGAGAGCAAACACACAGAAGGUCUCACACUUGCAAUAGUGAGAACUGGGAUGAAAGGAAUGACCGAAACCAAGAGAGUUGGAGGUAAGGGGAUAUAUAUGCGGCCCACAGAGACAGGCGACAUGCAAUCAUGCAGAGGAAGGGCAGUCAUGCAUCAUAUAGUCAAUCAGAGUACAAGAUAUAUCAUUCAUGCACGCAUACAAGCUAUGAGAAUCAAGAUGAAUAGUGAUAAGAAUACCAUGCUCAAAAGACGAUCAAGAUAAUAUGCAAGCCAGAGAAUCGACAUGUCAAAUCAAACCAACAACGAAUCCAUACAUGCAAGGCGGUCAGAAUAAUCAUGGCAAAUAUCAAAAUCACUAUACUAAGCGAAAUAAGAUAAGCAAUCAAUACAAUCAGCAUGCCAAUACCUCAAACGAGCAUGACAAUCAAGCAUAGAGAAAAUAGCUGUCUCAGAAUCCUCUAUCAAUACGAAUCAAUCAUCGUAAUCAAUAUGUCAAAUAUCUCAAACAAAAUAUAUCAAUGAAGCACAAAGAAAAAUCACUGUGUCAAAAUCCCUAAUCAAGAUAAUCGACUAAUAUGAUCAAUCAUGUCAACGUCCCAAGUGAAAACUCGAGAACCCUCAAUGUGCAAUCAAGAAGUGAGUACCCACUGAUAGACUCAUCAAAUACCAUGUUUGCUUCAUCUUAAGUUCAAGCUUGACCCUCUAAUGAUCCCCAGUGGAGUCACCAUUUUGUGGACCCCGCAUUUCGGCUGGCUCGAAUGCGUUUCCCACUCGAUGGCGAAACUCGAUUUUUAUUUGAAAAAUUGAUUUUUUAUUGAUUAAGAAAAAUGACUUGGAGUCGCCACUUAUUUUUGUUUUAUUUUUAAAGGGUAAACAAAAUAAGAAAGAAAACCCUAAGUGUGACUCCUGAUUUUUGGAAAAGGUGGUUUGUGAAAACCGGAUCGGGUUCGGGGGUCAGGUUACUUAUUGGGAAGGUACGGUAAAGACCGUAGCACCCCUCUAAGUCCCUAAAGUCGNNNNNNNNNNNNNNNNNNNNNNNNNNNNNNNNNNNNNNNNNNNNNNNNNNNNNNNNNNNNNNNNNNNNNNNNNNNNNNNNNNNNNNNNNNNNNNNNNNNNCAUCCCAGGGGUUUCUAUGGUGAAACCUUCAAACUCUCAACGCUCAAUGGUCGACUAGAGUGCACAAUGAAUGGUGUGGGUGCAUCCGAAAACCCUAGGAAGCUAAACAGAAGAGGAAACACACUGGCUACACAAUAUCCAUGAAACCUAGCUCCGGGCUAUACAGGUCUUCAAUGAUCGGACUCCAAUCGACAUCAAAGUGUCGCUCUCCUCCAGAAUGCUCCCGUGCAUCGAUAUAGCCCGUCGCUAGACCCUACUCCUAAUCUCUGGCUCGGUCAGAGAGCAAACACACAGAAGGUCUCACACUUGCAAUAGUGAGAACUGGGAUGAAAGGAAUGACCGAAACCAAGAGAGUUGGAGGUAAGGGGAUAUAUAUGCGGCCCACAGAGACAGGCGACAUGCAAUCAUGCAGAGAAAGGGCAGUCAUGCAUCAUAUAGUCAAUCAGAGUACAAGAUAUAUCAUUCAUGCACGCAUACAAGCUAUGAGAAUCAAGAUGAAUAGUGAUAAGAAUACCAUGCUCAAAAGAUGAUCAAGAUAAUAUGCAAGCCAGAGAAUCGACAUGUCAAAUCAAACCAACAACGAAUCCAUACAUGCAAGGCGGUCAGAAUAAUCAUGGCAAAUAUCAAAAUCACUAUACUAAGCGAAAUAAGAUAAGCAAUCAAUACAAUCAGCAUGCCAAUACCUCAAACGAGCAUGGCAAUCAAGCAUCGAGAAAAUAGCUAUCUCAGAAUCCUCUAUCAAUACGAAUCAAUCAUCGUAAUCAACAUGUCAAAUAUCUCAAACAAAAUAUAUCAAUGAAGCACAAAGAAAAAUCACUGUGUCAAAAUCCCUAAUCAAGAUAAUCGACUAAUAUGAUCAAUCAUGUCAACGUCCCAAGUGAAAACUCGAGAACCCUCAAUGUGCAAUCAAGAAGUGAGUACCCACUGAUAGACUCAUCAAAUACCAUGUUUGCUUCAUCUUAAGUUCAAGCUUGACCCUCUAAUGAUCCCCAGUGGAGUCACCAUUUUGUGGACCCCGCAUUUCGGCUGGCUCGAAUGCGUUUCCCACUCGAUGGCGAAACUCGAUUUUUAUUUGAAAAAUUGAUUUUUUAUUGAUUAAGAAAAAUGACUUGGAGUCGCCACUUAUUUUUGUUUUAUUUUUAAAGGGUAAACAAAAUAAGAAAGAAAACCCUAAGUGUGACUCCUGAUUUUUGGAAAAGGUGGUCUGUGAAAACCGGAUCGGGUUCGGGGGUCAGGUUACUUAUCGGGAAGGUACGGUAAAGACCGUAGCACCCCUCUAAGUCCCUAAAGUCGGGUUUCUACUAAUAGAAUGAAGCUAACAUGGCGAUGAUGAGGAAAUCAAUAAAUACUCAAAUCAAUCAUGCACAUAUGAGUAUCAAAAGAUGCGUAUAGCAAGACCAGAAUAAGGACAGAUGCGUACCUGGGCAACGAUCUUCAAUGCACUAUCAAGAAGUGAGAUUAGUGCACAAUUAAAGGAUGAUCACAUGCAUAUCAUAGAGCAGAAUAAAUCAUGUAUGGCACCCAAAUCAACCAAACAAUCCAUCAAUCAUAAAAUCUCAUAUGUUGGGCCCGCACCAAAGCCUGUUUAUUUUUGCAUGAAUUAAUUCCGUAAAUUCCAUUGUUCGGAAUUACGGAAUUUAAAUUCAUGUUUAUUUUAAAACAUUUUCAAAACAAAGAAAAUGCAAAAGUGGCUUGCCGGAAAGAAAAUGGCAACCAAAUUUUAUUGAAAAUGAGAUUUUUGGUAUCUUAAAAAAAAAACGAAAGGUGAAAAAGUAGAGGAGCCGGGAUUAUUUGAAAAGAUGAAUUGAAGAAAAUAUUUACAAAACGGGACAUGGGGCAAUUGUUUUAAAAUCAAAGAUGAUGAAGAAUAAAAGAAAGGAGGACACGUGCCUAAGGCUGCAUGCAAAAAUACUUGAGUGGGGGAGUUGGUGAGGAAUGGUCGCGCAGGGAUGAAAUCCUGAUCAUAACUGUGCUUACUCGAUCAACUUGUGGAUUGGGAUCAUCAAAUUCUGAAAACCCUGCUUAAAACUCAAACCAUUGAAUGUACCACCAUCAAUCACAGCGCUGCUGACCUUCUUAAACAGCCCGUAUGGUGCCUCUAUCUCACUCACACUAAAUACUGCUUCCCUUGCCAGAGCUUCAGGAUCAUGAAGACCUCUUGCUUGAUUCUGCAGAGAAAACCUGAAGAGGAAGAGUGAAGAUGCCAGGGUACCUGAAAAUCCUCAUUAUCAAGAACAUGAGUGAUAGCCUUUGCAGGCCUUUCUUGACCUUCUUGCAUUUCCAGCACAUGAGCAGCUGCAUCCCCACAACUCCCAGAUUUACCAUGUUUCCUAGCAUAGCAUGAAUCAUCAGAAUCACUGUCACCAGCACCUUCUUUGACCAUUAUCAAAUCAACCCACAGUUUCUCUUGUUUUUAGCUCUUCACUUCCGUCGUUCAGUGUAAAGCCAUUGAAAUGUUGAAGGCGCCAAGAUGGGGAAUAAGCUUGCAUGCGGGCUUAGCAACAGCCUGAUUUCCUCUUCAGUAAAUGAAACUAACAGUAGUAACCUUUAAGGGAUUGGCAAUGAGCAUCAAAUCCCAGCACAAGAACAUCCACCAGUUAUUUCUUCAAAUUUCCAUGAUCGAGGUGAACAAUGAUAGGAGUAUCAAUCCUGUACUGACAUAGCAGAGAAGAAUGAAAUCCAUUGCCAGUGAUAGUCCUCAACAAACUUUACCACAAUGCGAGAGGUGUAGCAGCCAAGGACUGGGGCAUAACCAUUUCCGAUUUUGGCCAUAGUGAUUCUUAGUUAUCAUGUCUGGAUAGCCUGGUGGAACCCUAGUAGAGACUCCAUUCCAACCACGUUUUCAGAUUCAGAAAACUCUGAUUGGAAAGAAACCUUAAGCCACACCUUGAAUUGAUAUCGAAACUUCAAUUUUUCACAAGAGAAUUUUGAUUCGCAAAAUCGGUCAAGUUCAUUUCCCUUCACUUCCCUGAAAAUCUGGAAGCUUCCUACAAAAGAUCCUCAUCUGAAGUCGAGAAGCUAGAAAGCUCAGAGAGGUUUUCCCCGUAAGACGCCAACCUCAUAUUGAGAACCUCAGUCUAUGAAUCAAGCUGCGUUUUCUCUCCUGCACCGCGCCGUGGAUGACUCCCCACUCUCUGAGGACACCAAAACUCAGGGAUGACACCCUCCGCAAACCCACAUACCUCACCUAGCUUCCUAUAAAUCCCCUUCUCUAGCUCGCUUCCACUGCAUAAACCGUCUUUGCACCUGCUUGUGCUAACCAGAUCGCAAGAAUGCCACUCCCAAUUCCUUUUCAAUCAAAAUCAAAUUCGAGUAACAAUUGAUCUCUCCAACCAGUUUUUCCUAUUUCAACAAUAUCUUCCGCAGCAUCAAGAAGAAUUUGGAGAUAUAUCAGCAGCCAUGGAUGAGAAUAUCUGUGAUUAAGACCAACUCGGUCAACAAAGGGAACCCACAAUUCUCUUCGCGUGAUUGCAUGGCUACAUAGUCUCUAAGAAGCAUAGAUCUAAAUAGUGCACCAAACGCUUUCAUGCCUUACAAAGAGGCCACGUAGGAAUCGCCAAUACCCUGUGGCCUUGAUGCGGCUGCUAAAUGAGCUCACCACUCUGGCUGCUCGACAGGGAAAGCUGCUGGCCUGGGCACUCUUCACUUUCUGCCAGAUUGAAGGCUUACUUGAUGAAUGAGCUUCACGAAUGUACAAGGUGGAAAAGUGAGGGUGGCAACUAUAGGGUGUAAGAAAUGAGUAUGAAUGAGUCCUAUGCCCGUGGGUAUAGUGAGAUAAAGCAUGAUGGAUGAGAAAUGGGCAGAGACAAUGUGGAUAUGGGACAUGGUGGAACGAGCAAAGUGGUUAGGCUAUUGAUGGUGAGUAGGGUACGGGUGAAGUGAUGUGUAUGGUGCAUGAGGGUAUAGUGAGUGGGCUAUGGAUGACAGAAUUGGUGAGAAAAAUGAGUGGAGAUAUGCUGAGUGUAAGGGAUAGGAAGGGUGAUGAGAAGUGGGUUAGUGGUGAUGUGAUAGAUAUGUGAAAUUGGAAAAUGAGAAAGGUGAUAGGUAAAAGAAAUGGGUAUGGAUAAUGGCCGGGUUUGCAUGGUUCCAUGCACAUGGGUAGAUGGAUCUGGGAAGUCAACAAGGGCUUUAAAAGGAGCUUUGGACAACCAUGCAUGUGCAGAGGUAGGUAUCAAGGAGAAUUCAACCUCACUCUGAUCAUUUAGAACGGGCAAGUAUCUUAGCAGUAGCAUCCUUCAUAGUGGAUUUCUCUGCUCAUCUGGCAUGUACCAGAACGCAUCCAGCACCUUUAAAGAGUGAUCUAGCACCUUCAUUCUUCAGGAUCUGUGAGAAUGCAUCGAAAGAGCUCUUGUAUUUGACAGCUUCGCCUGAGAUCAUCAUCAUCCUUCUACGCGCUGUAUCUAUUGGGUAAUAAGCCAAUCCUGCACCUAUUGUGAUUCCUUAUCCCAGCAUGAAACUAGCCAAGAGACUAUCCCCUCAAGACAGGCCCUGGCGCAUAGUACAUCUCCACAUCUGUGUACAUCUGGGCAUAAUGCGUGUCACCCUGUUUGCGAGGCAGCUCAAAGCCUGGUUCAGGAUAUAUCAUUGUUUCGACAGGAAGCUUGUACAAUCGAUGUGGGCAGAGCCAAAUUGGGUAUACCUCCCUCUCAUGAUAUACCCAUUCUAGAGCAUCUACCUCGCCCAGAAUCUGCUCCACAAGGUAAAAUUUUCCAUAAGAAUCAUCAAAAGUAGGAUUGCUUCCUCCAGAUUAUUUCUCGGUACAUAUGAACCAUCCAUCUGAACAGCUAAACUGGGUGGUGCAGCUGCAUGGAACAGUUUUGCUUGCAAUUGGGCAAUUCGUUCUUGCCUUUCUGGUGCUGGAAACCAUUCUGCUUCCUUUGGAUUCUCAUUUUCCACCUCACUAAAUAUAACCUCAGUUGCACCCUGUUUGGACAUGCCAAAUUCGUCUUUCUAUGGUUCUGUUAGAAAAGCCUCUGCUUCAGGAGCUUUACCAAGUGAUCCUUUCCAAUGCGUGGAUACCUCUCCACUAAACUAUUGUAGCCUAGUGGGAACGGGAAGCCGUUGUCAUUUUCAUCCCUACUGCAUGCUCCACUCCUCUUGAAAUCUGACUCGUCUCGGUGCAGGGAGACACAGAGGCCAAAUCAACAUGAGUACAAAUAGAAGGAACCCCGACAAAGGUAAUGUGAUCAGGUUGAGUUCUUGAUUUGAAUAGCAGCCCAGAGAACUGAAGAGCCUCGUCAGCUUGGGCAUUCUGAACAUAACCAAUAAUUAGGGAAGUCCAUGGUACUAAAUCUAGUCUCAGCAUCUCAUUGAAAACAUGUCUUGUCUUCUUAAUAUUCCCACACAAUGUGUAUAUGUGAACAAGCGUACUAGCUGCAAAUGAUAACAGAUCAAACCCAAUCCUCGUCAUAUACCCAUGAACCUGCUUACCCAAUUCUUCCGCAACGAGUUUCUCCAAUCCAUAAGCAUCUUGAGACCCUCUUAACCCCCAUUGAUCAUGGAAAACUCAAGCAUGCCGAAGCUGAUCAUCAUAAUAACUGGAUGGUUGGACUAGAUGAACCCUAUUCCUCCCAUAUUGGCAACAAGGUUAAACGCAUGGUCAAACCCAAUAGUGACCUUCAAGCAGUUGCUCAUCACCUUGAAAUCAAUCAAGAUAGGAUUCAUGACAGAACACAUCUUCAGUCAUAAGCCCUCUCUUCUUCCAGUCAGAAGCAAUAAUGUAGUGGCCCUCCGUCUUCAGACUCCGAGCAAUAUGAAAGGCAAUAAAGCCAUCAGCACUAGUGAUUGAGAUCUGGAACUUUUCAGAUUGUUAGUGUGGUUCCUUCUCAAGCUCCUCAUAAGUGUACCCUUCGUAAGUGGCUCCAUCGGUACUUCCCAUUCUCCUCUGUUUUCUCAAAAACGACUGUGAAUACUUCCCCUCUCAAUAUCUUAAGCUUGUUGUCUUUCCACUUGUUCUACAAGAAACAUGGCAGUAUCUUGAAGAUUUCUGAUGCCAAGACCCCUCAAAGUAACCCCCGAUUUAGACAGCCAAACCCAAACAAGAUGCUCAACACUCCAAGAGAGAGAUAACAAGAACAGGGGAAAGAGAAUGAAGAAAAAUAAAUAAAUAAAUAAAAACAGAGCAUGCAUGAGGAAGAACGAUGCCUUGAAAUCCAAACUCCAUUUUCACGAAUACUAAGAGACUUGUAAAACAAAGUGGUGGGAGAAUCUUAACACGCUAAUAAGUAGCGCAACCAUUGUAAAUACAUACAGAGAAAUAAAGAUGCUCAACAAGUAACAAUGAAAAGCAAGUUUAACAGCUUAGAUGACCAAAGCAAGCAUCCACUAUCAGCCGGAAACCUAGUAAUGCAGUAAUACUGGAGAAUUUAAAGUGAGGAAGGAUCAAACCUGAGCGGUUCCUCCCCUGCCCUGCUAACUUCCUCUCUCGGCUCCCCCCGAAAAACCUCCUCCUCCCUCUGUUUUCCUCCCAAAAUCUAUCUCUAACGGCUUGCUCUCAGACCACCCUCCUGCAGCCCUAGGUACCGUCCCCACUACCAUACAGCUGGCAGCCCCAAAAGCACUCUCUCCUCUGCUCCCCUCAACAACCUGCAGCUUUUGCAGAUUCCUCCUUGCCAGGUGUCAAUCUCUGAUUGGCUUUCAAAAACACUGUUCUGAUUCCAUGAUAGCCAAUCAGGGAUUGACACGUGGCCUCCUAGAAAUGCUCCAUCUGGCCAAAUAAGCUGCAACAAAUUCAAAAAGAAAGUGCUCCCAAAAUGGGGGUCUACACAAAUGCAUUCAUUAAUACAAAGAAAGUGACAAAGUCACAUAUCCCGACUACAAAUACUCCAACACAGAUUGAUGUCACUGUAGAACAAUUAACAAAUGAAUCUAAGAUUUGCUUGAAGCAUGGUAGACUUGUCAGCUCAAAGGAUAUAACUUCCUAGAAGAUGAGAACACAAGAAAAACUUUGUACUUUAGAAGAGGUCGUUAAAAUGACUGAUUAAUCUAAAAUUGAUAAAUCUAUAGCCCCAAAAGAGGCACGAAUAAUGCAAAAAGCACCUGAAGAGGCACAUAUUGAACAAAAAGCUCUUGAAAAGGCACAUAUUGAACAAGAAGCCCUUGAAGAGGCACAAAUACCUAAAAAUUGUGAGAUUUUAGUAAGUUAUGUACACAUGGGAGUAAAAUGGGAUUUAAAUAAUAUUACAAUUAACAAUAUUUUUCACUUUUCAAGUGGCCCAUGUAUCAUAAGAAAUGAUGAAGAUUCCAAACCAUGAAAUAUGGAAGAAUGCCGACAUAGAAAUGAUUGGCCAAAAGGGAAAGAAACUAUGCAAGAAAAGUUAAACUUAUUAACAAAACGAGAAUUGUUUGGACUUAUACUCUAAACACUUGAAGAAGUAAAACCUGUUAGGUAAAAAUGGGUAUUUGUAUGAAAACACAAUGAGAGUAAUGAAAUCAUAAGAUAUAAAGGCGAUUAGUAGCACAAGGUUUCUUUUAGAGACCAGGUAUUGACUACGAGAAAACAUACUCUCCCAUCAUGGACGCAAUCACAUUUCAUUUCUUAAUUAGUUUGGUAGUCUCAUAAGGACUAGAUAUGUGUCUCAUGGACGUUAUUACAACAUAUUUAUAUAGAUCCAUAGAUAAUGAUAUAUAUAAGAAAAUCCCUGGAGGAUUUAAAUUGCCUGAAACAAAUAAUACAAAGACUUGUAACAUGUACUCAAUCAAGUUACAAUGAUCCUUGUAUGGAUUAAAGUAAGUCGGACGCAUGUUGUACAAUCACCUUAGUAAAUACUUACUAAAAGAAGGGUAUGUGAAUAACCCUAUAUGUCCAUGCAUCUUCAUUAAGAAAUCAGAAACCGGAUUUGCAAUUAUUGUAGUGUAUGUUAAUGACUUAAAUCUUAUUGGAACUCCUAAAGAACUCAUAAAAACAAAAAAAUUACUUAAAAAAGGAAUUUGAGAUGAAAGAUCUUGGAAAAACAAAAUUUUCUAUUGUUAUCAAAUCGAGCAUUUUCCAAAUGGAGUUUUAGUACAUUAAGAAAAUUUUAAAGCAUUUUUAUAUGGAUAAAGUGCAUCCUUUAACUUCUCCAAUAGUUUUCUAAUCAUUUGAUGUGAAAAAGGACCCAUUCCGGCCUUGCAAAAAAUGUGAAGAAUUACUUGGUCCUAAAGUACCAUAUAUUAGUGCUAUUGGUGCACUUAUAUAUCUUGCCAAUUGUACAUGUCUAAACAUUCAUUUUUUUGUCAAUUUAUUAGCAAGAUACAGUUCCACUCCAACUCAAAGACAUUGAAAUGGUAUCAAACAUAUAUUGUGCUAUCUUUGCAGAACUAUUGAUGUGGGUCUAUUUUACUCAAGGGAAUCAAGUAAAAAUUGCAUAAAUAUACAGAUGCAGGAUACUUUUCAUAUCCACAUAAAGGUAGGUCACAAACAGGGUAUAUGGUUAAUUGCAAUGAUACUACUAUUUCAUGGAGAUUUGUCAAACAAAUAAUGAUGGCCACAUUAUCAAAUCAUUCAAAAAUUCUUGUAAUUCGUGAAGCAAGUUGUGAAUGUAUAUGACUAAGAUCUAUAAUCCAAUAUAUUCGGGAACCAUGUGGACUCUUAUCUAUCAAGAGUGAUCCGACAAUAUUAUUUGAAAAUAAUGUUGCAUGCAUUGCACAAAUAACAGGGGGUCAUAUUAAAAGAGAUAGAACUAAACACAUUUCAUCAAAUUUCUUUUAUACACAUGAACAUCAAAAGAGUGGUGAAAUUGAUGUGUAACAAAUACGCUCAAGUGAUAAUCUAGUAGAUUUAUUCACAAAGUCAUUGCCAACCUCAACAUUCAAGAAGUUAAUACACAAGAUUGGAAUGCAUCAACUCAAGGAUAUCGACAUGAGGGUGAGUAUGCUUGUAAAAGGAUGUUAGUGUACUAUACUUUUUUUCCCUUCGUCUAGGUUUUAUCCCGUUAGGUUUUACUAGCAAGGUUUUUAAUGAGACAGUCCUAACAUAUCAAGAGCAACUUAAAGAAUUAUUAGAAUAUUGUACUCUUUUUCCUUCGCUAGGUUUUUCCUAUAGGGUUUUUUACUAGCAAGGUUUUAAUGAGACAUAUUCUUCUAAUGUGGUGGACAUCCAAGGAAAAGUGUUAUAAAUGAAGUAAUGAAUACCACCACAUUUAUUAUAUUAAAUCUUCAUUAAUAUUAUUUAUGACUUCCAUUAAUAUUCAUUAAUGGAAGCCAUUUGGAAAGCUUAUAAAACAGUUUCCAAUCCCCUAUAAGAUGUAUCCCAAGGAAAGAAAGAAAUCCUCUCUCUUAUUCUUUAUGUAUUUCAUUCUUUCAACUCAAUUAAUUCUCUUUUCUGGUUCUUUCCUCCCCAUUAUAUUAUUAUUAAAAUAGUAUAUAGUUGUUCUCUGUUUUUAUUUGCAUUGCAUUUAUCCUCGUUUUACAACACUUAUUUUUUUCUUUUCUCUAUUUUUUUCUUCUUCUAGUUAUUAUUAUUAUUAUUAUUAUUAUUAUUAUUAUUAUUAUUAUUAUUAUUGUUGUUGUUGUUGUUAUUGUUAUUUUAUAAACAUAAUAUAACCUAUCAAAAAAUAAUAAUAAUAAUAAUAACACAUAUAUAAAUAAUAUAAUAAUUAAUUUACAAAUUAUUGUUUCAUUAGUUAUUAUUAUUGUUAUUAUUAUUAUAAUUAUUAUUUCAAAAAAUUUUAAAUAUUAUGUAUAACUUAUACAAUAAGAAUAAUAAUAAAAUAAUUUUACAAAUAUUGUUUCAUUCAUGUAUUGAAGACAAAGUUUUCUUAUAUAAACUUUCAUAAAUUAUCAAUUGUUUUUUACAAUAUGAUUAUUAAGAAAAUAUUACAAUAAAAAAUUAGUAUUGAUAAUUAUGAAAAAACAAAAUUAAAGCAUGUGUUAUUGUACUUUUAGUGUACUUAUAUUGUAAUUUCAAUGCAUAACUAUGACACAUACAUUUUGGAACAAACUUAUUAGUGUUCGAAGCAUUGUCUUUAUUCUACUAUAUUGAUUUCUAUAUUAGUAAGGCAUCCCAAUGAAUUAGCAUCAUAUACUAGAUGCAUUCUUAUCAGCAAUAAUUCUUAUAAUGAAACUCAUACACCUUAUAAAAAAAAUGUCUUAUAAGGUUAAUUUAUAGUAGAUGAAAUAUUAAAAAAUAUAUAAAAUAUGUGACAGCCAUUCAUCAAUGCUUGUUUAAAAGGAAAAUUUUAAAAUAAAGUUAGGUUAUGCAGUAAUGUAUAAGACAUUUAAAGUAUUCAUGUUGUAAGAUCAUUAUAUUUUUGUGGUACGUGUACAUUGGCUUUUAUAUUAAUACAUAAUAUCGGUGUACUAGCAUUAUACAUUUAAUGAAUCAUUAUUGUGCAUGAUUUUUAUAAUAAACCUAUAAGUUUUAAGAAUUAGAUGAAAGAAAAAUUAUAUUCUAAGAUUGGUUUAUAAUCAAUGACAUUAUAAUAAUAAAAAUAUGAAUAAUGAUACAUAUGGAAUAUUAAUGAUAUAAAACUAAUAUCAUAAAUAAUAAUAUUAAUAAUAUGUUAAUAAUGAUGAUAAUAAUAAAUAUAUAAUUAUAAUUUUUUUUUAAUAAAUAACAUAGUUAGUCUUAACAUAGAGUAAAUAAAGCACAAAAGGUUGAAAAGAAAAGUAGAAAAGUAAAGUUAUAUGGGAGUAGAAGGAAAAGACAAAAUGAUGUAAUUGGAAUUAUGGAAUGAUCAAAUUAUCAAACUAUAACUUGUGAAUUUGACAAGACUUUGAGACUUGGUGACCCUUGAGGGAGCUUAUCAUCACUUUGAGCUAGGUGACCAUUUUUUUUAAAAAAAAAAAUCGAAAAUAAAGGCCAUGAAAAAUUUAUUUAUAAAGAAUAAUAACAAUUUUGUAUUUUUUUUAUACAAAUUAGAUAUUUAAUUUAUUAGAAUAAUUUUGGUGGUAAUGACAAACAAAAUAACUCCUUAAAUAGGUGAAAUAAUUCAUUUUCUCAAUUUUAUAUGCAAAAGUAUUUUAAAACAAAAAGGAUAAUACAUUAUUUUUGUUCAUCAAUCCACAUUUUGACUUCCAUUUUAAAAUCCAUCUAUAAAAAUCUCUCUUUAUAAAUAUCUGCCUAGAUUGCCUAAUCAUCUAUUUGUUCAUUGUCUAUAACUUCUUGCCUGAUUAUCAAUUUAGAUGUUCAUAUUUGCGUAUAUUUAUUCAUUCCACCAUGGAUUUUGUUGGCUUAUUUGUAAUGUAUACAAUUUUGAUGAAUUGUUUGAUUAUUUGAGAACCGAAUUUCCCCUAACCCACCAAUAAAAUGCAAGUAAAAGUCCGACCAAGAGGGGUGUUCUUGGCCGGUGGCCUUCCUGAUAAGUCACCUUAGCCGUAGACUAGAUUUAGAUUUUGCAAUCACUAUCAUCUUGACCAAUCUAGCCAUGUACCAAAAAGUCAAUUUUGCCAAGUUUAAAAAGUUUGCUUUAAGCCUGUUCAUCAUAAUUGACAGAAGUUAGAAUUACAAUGAAAUAUCUAGGAGAAAAUGUCCGCAGGAGCAGAGAGAGAGAGUAAAGGCAAUACAUUCAGUCAUGAAUUUGAUGCAAAUCCCAAAGUACGUAAUUGUGUCGAAUACUCUCACCAUGAUUGUCGAUCUAUCGGAUCAGACGAUUACUAUGUUUGCCAAAAAUGCCUGGGCCGUAUGUGGAAUAAAUCAAUUCCACAAGGAGGGGAAACUGCAAAAUUCCGUACAAGGUCACAGGCAAACAGGCUAAUGCAGCCAAGGUAAUAAGAAUCCAUGCCUUCUUUUCACCAAAGAGAAGAUAGAUUGCGCUACUGUAGGCUAUCAUCAUGAAUGUUACGGAGAGGAAUAGAGUAACAAGGCCAAAUAUCAACCUCCUGGGAAGGGCAAAAAGAAAAUCAUCUUCUGCAUAUCGUGCCGUGAGAAUGGAUAGGCAUAUCAGCACCGAAGCAAUGGAUAGGAAGAGGGAAAGAGAAUCCGAAGCUGCAAAAACUUUGAAGGCCUUUUCUUUGGAGAAAUUUGGUAUGCCAGUAUCAUCAUGGUUGCCACCCGGGAUGGUAAUUGCUGCUGCAAACACUACAGUAGCAAUAAGCGCUGCUGCUAAUGCGUAACAUUUUGCUGUGCCUUUCAUCCAUUUCUCCCCUUCUUUUAUCAACUUUUCAUGUUCCUUUAUAAAUACCAUUUUCGGUUUAUCUUUGUUUUCGUUCUCAGAUUCACUGAAGGCUCUCGGGGCAUAUUUUUCAAUUUCCUGUGUAAAAAUCAAAAUGUUUCUAAGAUACAGAAAAAGAGUGGAUAUGUAUAAGAAAAUUAAUUCCCCUUCAAAACAAAAAUUAUUACCUUAAACCAAUGUAACUCGCGUUGCAUUUGUAGAGCUGCACCAGAAACGAGACUGAGCCGGUGCGGAGGGGCCAAUUUUCCAGCCAAAUGCAAGAUAUUACCGUUAUUUGAAUCAUCUUCGGUUCGUAUUAUAAGUUGUCUAUGCAUACCGGUUUCGCAGAUGAGGUUGAAAAUCUUUUCAUAACGAUUUAAUACUGCCAAUUUGAAUACAUCCUCAUCCAGAUACUCGAGUGCAUAAGGAUAUGACUUUAUAAUCUCUUCCAGAAUCUCGGGAAUCCCAUAUUUUGCCCCAUUAAUGAAUGAUUGUCUAAAUAUUUUCUUCGCUCUUGAUACUUCCAAAACUUCAGUACAUAGGUGGUUAAGUAAUUGAAGAGUCAGAGUAUGCAUUGUUUUUGUUUCUUGGAUGUGCUUGAUGGGUGGUACUGCAAUUAAAAUUAUAUUAAGGACAACAUAACAUUGAAUUCAAGACUUUUACAUGCUUUAGUGGUAGUUUUGUUGUGUUCCUUACCUAACCAUCCAACCAGUUCCCAGAAUAUUGCAUUCGCCUUUUGGCAAGCUGUGUGCAACGUAAAAUUGAAGCAGUUCAGAUGCAAAAGCAGGACUAACAGAAGAAAAAACAAAAAAGCAACCCUGAACCAAGUACCAAUUAAACACUAAUCUAAAUUAAAGUGAUCGUGAGAAGUUGCCAACUCAUAUUGACUGGUGUAAAGUUUUUUGGGGAUUCAAUAGGUUUCAUAUAUUUCCCUUAAACCGUCACACUUGAAUUUAAAGGCUAGAAUGAAGAAGCCUAAUGAAACUUGGUACAAGCUCAAUUACUUGACUUCUUAUUAAUUAACCAGGAGCAUCAGGUGACAAGAUAUUCACAAAAUCUAUCAGAGCAAUGAAAAUUGUGUAUCCUGCAUAAAUCUCUGAGUAGUAGAGUAUUAUCCAUUGGAAUUUGAUUGUAGAGCUGAUUUCAAAUCCAUUACUCUAACUUAAAAGGAUAAAAAAUGAAGACAAUUUUGUGAGGACAAAUUAAAAUUGUGAGGACCUCGAAUUCAACAAAUUAGCAUUUCUCUACUGAGUGCAAUUUGGCAAAUUGGUUUGACCUAACUCGAAUCUCGGUGAAGUUGAGAAACCAUUUUUAGUACUCAAGUUAGGAUUUGGUCGAGUUUCUCAACCAAAAGUUAAUUUUGGUUGAGCUCAAUUUUGGGCUGAGUUUAAACCAAUGCUUCAACAAUCUAAGCUGAAUUAAACUCCAUUAAUAUUUUAUAAUAUUUGUAGAAUGUAUUACUAUAUAAUAAUAUCAAAUUUUUUUAUAAAAUAAGUUUAAGGGAAAAAUCAUCAAAAUUUAUUAAGCUAACUCUCAGAAAUUUGCCCACCCCCUUGUGAACACUAUUUGGAAGGAAAAUUAAUUAGGAAGUCUCUUAAGCAAGCCAGAAAGGUAUCUUGUCCUUUGUAUCCCAUGCAUUCAAAAGUACAGGGACUAAUGAACACCCAAGCAUGGUGCCUACUACUUCAUCACAUUUACGGAUGGUUAUAUCUACAAGUCGAAAGAUUUGCUUUGAUUUAGAUGUUAUAUGAAUAUUGUAAAAAAAUUGAAAAGAAAAAACUAUUACAACAUUAAGGAUAAAUCAUGGACAUGAGUAUCCAUUGAAGAGUUUUAAAAAACUCUAUGAUGAAAAGGAAAUCCAAAGAACAAUCAAUAGCUUCAAGGACUCCAUAGUAAAAUGGUUGAACUGAAAAAAGUAACCAUAAACUUUUGGAUAUGGUUCACUCAAAAAGGCACAACCCAACUAUCUAACAUCUUUCGGGGUGGGAAAGGAGGGUUAGUAUUUUGAUUGCAACUUAAAUCUUGAAUAGAAUGCCCUCAAAAUCAAUUACUUCAAAUCCAUAUAGUUAAGAAGCCAAACAUAACUCACUUGUGAUCCUAAGGGUUAGCAGGUUUAGUUCAUGUAAAUUCUCAUAGAUAUUGUGCUAUAAAGGAAACAAGUGCACUUUCAUUAGAUAUUCUAAUAAAUCAAAGGUUGUGUGAUGCUUAGUGAACAACUCAAUGGGAGUAUAAUUGAAAUUAAGUUAUAUGAAUAUAAUUUCUUAUAGGAUGAUAUUUUGAGUAAAGGAGCAUUGAAUAGGAGUCUCAAUUUAUUUGAGGCAACUAAACCAAAGGAAAAUACUAUGAUAUCUCAUAUCGAAUAAGGGAAAAAGUUCUUGACAUCAUAUAUAUAUAUAUAUAUAUAUGAGCUUCUCUUAAUUAUUUAGACACAUUUUAAUGUUAUGAGGGCUCUUUGAGCCUAAAGUCGAUAGUAUAUAUUUACACAGUUGGGAGUGAGUUGUUACAAAUGGUAUCAAAGUGUAUCCUCAACCAUGGUAUGAGAGUUUGUUUGUUUGGUCCUGUAAUCAUAUGGGACACAAAUGAGGACUUUAUGUCUUCAUGGGGGUGAUUAUGAUAUGCUACAUUGAAUAGGGAAAAAAGUUCUUAGAAUUAUAUAUGUAAGAGCUCUUCUUAGCCAUGAAAACGUGUUUUAAAUCUCUGAGGUCCCUUUGAGUUCAGAGUAAACAAUAUCUACUUGAUUGGGAGUGAGUUGUUAUAGAUGUUAAAGAUCUUGCUAAGGAUAUGAGUGACUCGACAAGAUAGUAACUUUGAGUAGUAACUUGCCCCUACUAGAUUAUGCCACUAAGUGUGAUUUUACCAUUACAUAUUAAUUCACUAGAUUUAGAUGUGUGUGGGGAAAAACUUGGAACUAUCUCAUCAUUGUAAUUGUGGGCAUUAAGGUGAAGCUUUCAUGUUUGCAUCAUAAGAUCAUGAUGUUAGGAUAGAUUCUUUAAAAGCAUGAUAUGAUGUAACCAUAAAUGGAGUUCAUUAAUACUUACAUUAUGACUUCAAUUUUCUAUUUACUAUCCUAUUUAUGAAUUAUGUAUGUUAAGCAUUCAAACCUACAUCACUUGCAUGUACAUGACUUGAGUGAAUUAGGAGUUACAUGGAAAAUCUAAGUCAUAGAUUCCUUGCAAGUUAAUGACUCAUUCACAACUGGUUCAUGGACUUCAAUAAUCCAUUUGAGGGAUGACUUGCCCUAGUCAUUAGGAUGGGUUUCCCAUGGUCAGUGUACUAGUGUGUUUAGUUAUGUUGGGAAACCUAUAUCUCUCCAUUCCUAUAACCCUAGAUUGUAUAUGUGCAUGCAAAAUACCUUAGGGCUCUAAAUCCUAUGCAACAUAAGCAAAAAUCAAAAUUUUAACAUUCUAUAAUCUAGAGAAAAGUUAUUAAAAACUUUGAGAAAAUAAAAGGCUAAUCUUAAUAGAAAACACCCAAGAGGGGGGGGGGGGGGGGGGGGGGGGGGGGGGGGGGGAAUGGGGUUUUAAAAAAAUUUUUUCAAACCCACAAAAUUCAGGCAAGGGAAACCAAAAAUAAANNNNNNNNNNNNNNNNNNNNNNNNNNNNNNNNNNNNNNNNNNNNNNNNNNNNNNNNNNNNNNNNNNNNNNNNNNNNNNNNNNNNNNNNNNNNNNNNNNNNGGGGGGGGGGGGGGGGGAGGGAGGGGAGGGGUGAAUUGGGUUUUAAAAAAUAUUUUUCAAACACAACAAAUUCAAGCAAAGGAAACACAAAUAUAAAGAGAUAAGGUUAGAAAGAGUAAACUCAGAUUUUAUAGUGGUUCAACACUUGUUUACCUAUGUCCACUCUCCUCAACCUCCUAACUAAGUGAAGGUUCCACUAUACUUGAAGCUUCAACCAAGCUUUUAAUCACCUUUACACUUGGAUUCCAACUUCAAUGGGCUAUUACACAAUCCCUUCAAGUCUUAACUCACUUGAAGCUUUUAACACUCAAAUAAUAAGUUCGAAUCUCUCAACCUAGCUCAACAAGGGCUCAAAUACAACUUAAAUGUUAGGAAGAAUCACAAAGGUGCACUAAGGAAUAUGCAAAUGGAGAUUUAAUGCACUAAGGAAAGAAUGAGAGCUUUUGAGGCAAGAACAAGUAGGUAGACAAAUAAAUGCAGGUGUUCUCUACCUCAUAAAUGAAGUGGAGUUCUCAAUUUAUACGUUUCUAGCCUUGGGAGCCAAAAAUGUCAAAAAGUAGUAUUGAUCAGUUGAGUUGAGGGUCAACCGGUUUACUAACCAUUAGACAAUAAAUGCAUGGUAGGUGACCAUUACGCCUUGACUAAUCCUUGACCAAACCUCGAUCGGAUCUCGACCGAGAAGGCAUAUCCCUCGACCAAGAAUGCAAAGCUACAAGAAGAGAGAAUAUUUUUUGCAUUUCUCAAUCAGACCUUGAUCAAGAAGGUGUAAUCAGUCGACCGGUGCCCUAACCGGUUGAGCCGGUUGACCAGUGCCUUGACCAAUUCACCAUUUUUGGCUUGAAAACCUCUUUUAUAUAUAUAUAUAUAUAUAUAUAUAUUCUUUUCUCUUCUAACACUUAGGCAAGGUAUUUAGGUAAAUUAAUAUGCCACUUUUGAAACAAUUUGCCUAAGGUUCAUUUGAUAAAACUAGGGUUUUGACGGAAAUGUAACUUUAAUGCCUAAACCGAGUUUUUAAAGAGCAUGAAAAGAUAUGAAAUCCUAAGUGCACCAUGCAUUCAUCUUACAUAUGUUUCAUAUUAUUAAAGGGUCUUUUAAUUGUCUUUAUCUUGCAUCCAUUGGGUCCUUUGAUUAAUUUCCAAACUAAUACCUAAAAUUCUUUAUAAUUCAAACCAAUUAACAACUUAACCAUGGUUUGUUAUCAUCAAAACGCAAUUAGGAGAACCCUUGGGCUAACAAAUCUUACCUUUGAUUUGAAUGGUUCUCAAAUCAAUUCUACUGAAUAAAGAUGAAGCCUAAAGAGUCUAGAGGUCUCAUACACCAAAAAUAUUUUGCUUGAUGACUUGAUCCAUGAUCUUGGCACUCCAAAAUGUGGGCUUUGGAAAAGAGGAAUCCUAGGCUCUCUCUCUAGAUGUAGAAGACGAUUGUCUCUCAAAAAGUGAUUGGAACCCUAACCCUUAGAGGGUAUUUAUAGCGUUGCCCUACUAGGCUUAAAUGACUUGAGCCCACUAAGGCUUGGGUCACUUAAUCUUGUCUAAAAUGGGUCCUAAUUGAUUAAUUAACCAUAUAGGGUCAUCUAAUUAAUCAAUUCAUGUCAAUGAGAUAAUAAAGAGAAAGUAAAAAAUAUAAAUAAUACAUUUAUAAAUAAAUCUCUAUUUGUUACAUCAUGUCACUCUUUUUAGGACUCAAUUCUAAUAGUUUACACAUUAAAUAGGAUUUACAGUGAGUCAGACAUUGGUCAUUAGGUAGUCUUGACUUCACCAAGCUGUUAUGUUGUAUAAGCUCUCAACCUUGAGAGAAUAUUGCUAAGGUAUUCAAUGGCUUUAACCCAUGAGUGAGACCCUAAAGUGGUCAUAUAUUCUCUAUAGAUUGGGUCACUAUGAUUGAGGCAUGUGAUAAUAGGUAUUCUCAAGAUAAGCACCACGAUAUCUUAGGGGUUUGAGACAUUAUGUCCCCUUAGGUGAUCCUAAGGACAUGUGAUCAUGAAAAUUGUGGCCACAAUAAUUCCUUAAGUGGAAUUUGAUGUAUGCUCUUAGAGAGAUAUUGUAUGUCAAUUGAUCACAUAAUAGGAGGAUCUAAGACUCAAGGAUUGUAGAGGUAGUCUUGAGAGGUUGAUAACAUUCAUCUUGUUAAAUUAUGAAUACCAAUUCAUGGGGAGCUUGCAUGCAAUUGUUAGUAGGUCGUAGACUGAAGUUUUUUAUCUCGAUCUAAUAUCAUAAGGAUACUAAAGUGUAGUUGACUCUUUAUAGUUAGAUUUUGAGUCAACUUUAAAAUUGGAUUUUAGGGGAGCCAACACUUCCCUACGGGUCCUAGUGGUUCCCACUCAAACUCAUAUUCCUUGGUAAAAAAUAUUUGAGGAAUAGUUGGAUUCUUUAUUUAUAUGUGUGUAUAAGAGCAUUUUGGUAAAUACGGAAGGUUGCACUAGUACAUAUAAAUAGCGUUUUUAGAUUCGAAUAAUUAAUUAAUUGGAGCUCAAUAGAACAAAUUAGUUAAUUAGGACCCAAUGAGUUAGAUUAAGUAACCCAAACGUAAGAUGAGCUCAAGUCACUCAAGCUAAGAGGUAAGCCUAUAUAAACUCCUUAAAGGGUUUAAGACUUAGUACUUUUCAUCCAUUCAAUCUUCUAUCUUAAUAUCUUAAUAAAACCAAAAUGAGAGUGUAGAGUAUAAAAAUAAAAAUGAAAAAGAACUUCUCAUGAGAAGUGAGGUUUGCCUCAACUCUCCUUAUUCAAACCAUUAUCACAUCUUUGGAUUUGAAAUUAUAUCAAAUAAACAUUCAAAUUGUUUUUCUCAAUGGAGAACUAAAUAAGAAGAUCUAUAUAGAUCAACUGACUUGUUUUAUGGCAACUAAAUAGAAAGGCAAAGUUAACAACUACAAAGGUCCAUUUAUAACUUACAAUAAUCAUCUAAACAAUGGUAUAUUACACUAAUGGGUUUAUGAUGGUCUAAGAACACUAUUGCAUGUUUGUUAAAUGGUGUAAGGGUAGAUUCUAUAUUCUAUUUUUUGUAUACGAAUGAAAUGUUGGUUAGGGAUGAUAAUGAGAUGGUUGUCUCUAAAGUGUGGUGGUCGUCAACUUUUAAAAUGAACAACAUGCUUAAAGCAAACUAUGUGUUCAAAGUUAUGAUCCUAAUCAAUCAAUCAAGAAGACUUUUUGGUUUGUUUUACAAAUCAUACACAAUGAAUAUUCUUGAAAAAAUUCUAGAAGUAAAAUUGAAAAUCUAUUGGCAUUCAUAUAGAGAAAGAUAAGACCUUAAGCUUUAACAUGUGUCAUAAGACUUUAGAUGAAUAGGAAAAGAUCACUCAAGGUUCCUAUAUGCUAGCAUUGUUAGUAGCUUAAAGUAUCCAAUGAUGUGCACAUGAACUAAUACUUGUUAUAUAAUUAGGCUAGUAGCUUCCAAUUAGAUCUAAACCUUGUUUACGAAAAAGCAAUGAACUGGAUGAUUUCGUACCUCAAAGUCACCAUAGGCUAUAUAAUUUGCUAUUAAGGAUUGAAUUUGGACUUGAUUAGCUAUGACAAUGAUAAUUGAUGUAGCAUCAUAAAUGAACCCAAAUCCACAUAUGGUUAUAAUUUUAUAUAUGCUCUAUGAUGUUAGCAUAUAUUGGUGAAAUAGAAAACAAUCAUGUAUAACAUUGUCUAACAUGCAUGGAGUUGGGAGUACAUUACUUGUCGUUUAGGAAAGUGACUAGUUUAUGAUGUUCAUACAUAUUUUUCACAAUAUUGCUUGUUCUUUUGAGCAUACUACUAUUUAUUGUGAUAGCAUGGUAACUUUAGCCUAUGUCAAAGACCCCCCCAAGUAUCAUAGUUGAACCAAUCACAUCAAUCUUAAAUAUUAGUUUAUAUGAGACAUGGUUACAUAGGAACAUAUUUCUACUUGAUGCAUGGUUAAAAAUCCCACCCUCCCCUCCCCCCUUGUUAACUAAGCUAAUACGUAAAGAUGUUUAUUAGGGUCAAGUUGAGAGCAUUGGAUUAUGUAGAUAAUGAUUACAUAGGAGUUAAGUUAAGAGAAUUUGAUCAUGUAGAUUAUGAUUACAUAUUGUAUAUUUCAAUUAACCAUUAUACCUAUGAUUUAUUCAUUGUCCAAUCUUGUUUGAUGGUGGCAUUUAAUUAUUUGUUUUACUUUAUCGACAUGCACUUUCAUUACUUUGCGCAACUGAAACAUAAUGAGUCUAAACCACUUAGAUAGUGUGUUAGGUCAUUGAUAUUUGUAGUACUCCUUUUGUAUCCAAUAUGACUUACAUGUUAGUAGCGACCAAGUAUAGAUAGUCCUAUUGUCUACAUUUGUAAUGGAGUCAAUUGCCAAAUCUUGUUAAUGUAGUGCUUGAUUUAGUAAGCAUGUGCAAAACUUCAAUUCUUUACUUGAUGUAAUUAAACUAAGAUUUGUAUGAUAUAGAAUAUCUAAGGUACACUCAUAAUGAAGAUCUCCAUGUUAGCAUGUAUAUUCAUACUAUAUCUUCUUCGCAAUCAAACAAGAAUGAAUGAAUAUAUUCCUAGCUACUUCCUCAUCUUGUGCAUUAAUCUUAUAGGUCAUUAUAUAUGCUAACUUUUAUGCCCUUGUGAUUUUCAGUCAUAAGUUACAUAUAUGGUGUAGUUUGAAAUAUUUUUCUAAGGGGAUUAACCAUGUUUAACUCAAUGUGAAUAAAUGUGUUUAAGAUAUAACGAGACACCUUUUAGGGAUGAAUUACACUGGUUAAAAUGAAAUUUAGUUUAAUACUCUUACACCUUUCUUAUCAAUGUGUUCAAAAGUUGUACAAUCCAUUAGUCAAUAUAAACAUGGAUGGUAAUGAUAUAGUUAAGAGAAAUGCAUGAUGUUAUUUUGCCUACUGUGCAUGAGUGGGAGACAAUGGAGUUUCUAUUUCAUGAGAUACUCUUAGUAGAACUUCAUCAACUAAGAACUUGAGAGUAAGUUGCAUACUUAUCAGUUAAGAUUCCUCUUGUGGGAGGAGGUUCAUAUUAGAUUUGGUGAGAAUCUAUAAGAGUUGUUUGUCUUUUUGUAAUUCCAAUUCAACUCCUUUUGCAUGUUUUCAAUUUAGUUUGUGGCAGUUGUUAAAUACUUCUACUUUAGUUUUUAGCAAUUAUAAUUUUUUAAAGCUUGCUAUUUAGGUUUAGAUUUACUGUAUGCUUAUUAGAUAUCUUAAUUCUUAUUGUAUUCUCCUUGGUUAAUAAUCUUCCAAUUUGAUCGUGGAGUUCAAAGAUUUUAACCAAAAUAGGGAUUAGGGUUUUCAAAGUUAGGAAAAGUAUUUAAUAUAAUUAAUUUUUGAAUAAGUUUGCAAGCUAAAUCUUUCAAUUGAACCUAAUGAGUUUACAUACUAAAUCUCUUAUUUUCGGCCUUGGUUGUUUCCACUCUUUGCAAUUUAAUUAGUUUUUUUUUUCAAAUAUAUAUAUAUAUAUAUUUAUAAUUCAUUUUGUGUACCUAUAUACUCAUGUUUUUGAGUAAUUAUGAGUUGUAUUGUUAUAUUUAGUAGAAUUUGACAAACUAAAAAUACUUACCUUUGAACAAUUGAGUCCAACAACACAUUUGUGUGGAUAGUUCAUAGCUACCAACUUGAUUCUUCAUGCCUCCUCUAUUAGGUUGACUAAGAAAAUGGUUUAAUUUCACAAGAACACCUUAAGAAUAAAAAUGUCAAGAAAAAAGGAAGGAAAAUUAUGCUUCAUCUAAUUUGACUCCAAGACUUAAAGGAAAAAACAUAAUAAUAUAAUAGUUAUUAUAAUGAAUAUAAUAAAAAGAAAAUUUGUCAUGUUCUUCCCAAUACUCAUAAAACCCCUUUCAAUGAAACUUUGUAAGCUAUACUAAUACAAAAUAAUGGUCCAUAUAGUAAAAGCUCAAUAAAUGAAUGUUUGAUAAAUUAAUAAUCUUACUUAUAAAACAAAAUAUUCUAGUCUUAACUCAAGCCAAUGUACUAAAUUAGUAAUCUUGCUAAAUGCAUAAGAUAAAAAUAUUUUCAAAAAUCUUUAAGGGCUUAAGAAAUAUAAACUAAUAAUUGAUGAAGUAUAAACAAAAAAUCAUAGUAUAGCAAAUAGAACUUCAUAAUAUAGUAUUAAGUAAUUUUUUAUAACUUUUAUUUUUCUAAAUUCACUUCUUUUAGAAUUAUUACAUAUUUGAAAUAGCUUUAUCUUUUACAACAUUAAGUUUUGAUGCCACAUCUUUGUUGGGGAGUCUUUUUUUCUUUUACAAUCAAUAACUAUUUUUUUUUUCUUCAGUCUCUCAGGUUUCUAUGUAUUAACUUUUUACCACGUGUACUAUUUUUAAAUUUAUAAGUCAUACAUGUACAAAUAAUGUACAAUAACAACAUAAUACUCUUCAUCAAUUAAUAAAUAACCAUUUAUCUAUAAAUUAAUAACCUUGCUAAGAUCAUUUUUUUUCUUGGUCCUAAGAGUAUUAUUUUAUAAGAGUUUUUCUCUAUAUAGUUCCUUCAUUGUAGGAAUUUCUUUAGGUUAAUAUUACUAAAGUUGUAAUUUAGAAAAAAAAAAAUAUUAUGGAAACUAAGAGAAAUUUGAAAGCUAUAAAUUAGUGUUUUAUAUCAUUCUUUUUUCCUAUGAAUGCCAAAGCCAUUGUCAAAUAAAAAGAGUAAAUAAAGUAAUUAAUCAAGUAAUUAGUUGAAAGCGAAAUAGGUGACUUAAAACUAUUGCUUUGGUACAUGUUUGUUUGAGGUAUAGUAGAUCGUAAGAAAUAAAAUCCUCUAGCUAUGUUUAUUUGAUAGAAUAAAAAAGUGAGUGUGUGGUUGCUCUACAGGAGAAGACCACACGUUAGCCAAAGAAUAAGUAACUAGAAAGCUUACACAAGUGUUAAAUGAUCAAUUUCUCACCUAAGCACAUUAAUGAGAACUAAAUGUUGAAUUAAACCAUACUCAUGCACCCAUACUAAGACCCAUGCCUCCAUGUGGGGAGACCCUAAUUGGUCCCUAAAAGGAGAAGUUUAAUAAUGGCCACAUCCUCUAUGCCAUGUUAGUAUUCCAAAAACAUAGAAAGUUAACCUUUGAGUUGAUGCUUAUUUGUCUGGUAGUUUCCACAUUCUUCUUACUAAAUUGACAUUUGAAGGCUCUACGACCAUAAGGAGCCUAGAGUGCUCCCUUUAGGUUCCUUAUGAUUGUAAGGUCCUAACCAUCCAUUGAAGUAAGAAAGUGAACUAAGAGUUGGAAAAAUGGUGUCAUCUAUGGUGAAGAUACAAAAAUUCAGCUCACCAAAAAAUCACAAUAAAGCUACUAAAAAACACCCCACCCCUAGGCAAAGACCUUCAUUUAAGUACUCCUUGAGGUCUACCCAAAUCAAAGACCUAACGUUGAAGAAAUGAAGUCAACUAAACUUGGUUUCAUGCAUGAUAAGGUUGAAAAGCCUGCAUAAAAACCUACAGAAAGCUUGCUCCUUUAUAAGAAUAACCUGAACCUACAAGGGAAGAAGACCUAUAAAAGGAAAUCAUAAACAACAAAGAAAAAAAAGUCCCUCCCUCCUUUGAAAAAGAUUUCUUUGAAUGCAGAAACCUAUUUUUUUUGUAUCAAAAAAUUGGUGGAAUAAAAAUUUUCAAUUAUCUAUAAAGAGUUUUAGCUUCUUCAUAUGGGAAUGCAUUAAAAGCCUUGAAGACAUUGUUUAGAUCUAUAGCAAUAAUUGGGCAAUAGAAAACUAUGCAAUAGAGUUUUGGUAGGGAAAUGCAAUCAUGAUAGAAAUGAAGUGGAGCAAUGAGUGAGAACAAACCCUUCAAUAGAUGGAAGAGCUCAUUAAAAUAAGUGACUAACUCACUCAAGAAAAUGUUGCCUUUAGGGUAAGGGUAGACAAAUACCAAUGUGAUUUUGACCAAAAACUCUCAUUGGCAAGCACCAAUAAGAUGCAAGUUAAUGAAUAAUAGUUAUCGAAGCAACUAGACCAACAUCUAGAUUAAAUUGGGAGAGAAAGGUGGGAGAAACAUUAAUUAAACUAACCAAACAGACCACCUUGCCAAAGGCCCCAAUGCUCUAAGGGAUUCUUGCCACCAGAGCUACCACAAAAUGCAUAAUCUUGGUGAAUAAGGUGAUUGAGCCCAAGUCCCUUUAGAAGGAGAAUGAGGCCAUAUGAGAGUUUUCCCUCCCUAAGUUCAAUUUCUUUCAAUGAAACUAAAGACACCCUAGACUAUUCAUGCAUUUCUAUGCAUGUGAUAAUCUUAGAGAAGGGAAACGAUCGACUUUUAUGCAAAAUCUUCCCCUCCAUCCUCCAAGGACUAACUUUAUUUUGUCUUUAUCAACUUACCUUAGAGUUUGUUCCUAAUAUCGAGACCCUAAGGGUGAAGUCUACCUCUUAGUACAUGCACUUAAAAAGACAAAAUAAAAGCCUCAAAUAACCCAAGGUAGUUAUAGCUACCAUUCAUGGUGGAUCAUCUACUAGAUUUGAGCAACUAGGCAAGGUAUCAAGAUGUUACAGAAGCAUAUGGCGAUUGAAGCAAAAGUCCUCACAUCCUUGCAUGAAGCAACUACCACUUGCCCACAUGUCAUAUGCUUCUCUAAUAAAGGCUUAAGAGGAGUCCAAACCCUGCUCAAGAUCCAUUGGUUAUUACUUUAAGAAUUAUUGACUACAACAUGCACCUAUUCUUAGUUGACCUAACGAAUUUAGUUAACAUGCUAAAUAUAUUAGCCCAUCUAUGAACAAGUGAAUAUGGACGAAGGAAAACUAGUGUCAAGUCUAGGGUCAUUGGUGGGACUAGACAAAGUCCUAUGUGGCUCAACUGGGGAAGUCGCCCUAAUGGUUCCAAUUGGUUGUUGCCAUAUAAUGACACAAUUCUUUGUUAUGGAUAUCCUUUUCCCGAUAAUGCCAUUAUGGGAUGACCAUGGAUAUAAAACCUAAGAGGAACACUAUUCACAUACCAUCACACCAUUAAAUUCCUAAUACUACAAGGAAUAUGGGAAAUAUAUCAAGACUAGGUGGCAUCAUGAGUAUGCUACACCAUAGCCCUUAAAGCGGUCAUCAAGUGCAUCAACUGGGACCCUUAGGAAGUUCAUAAAUCAAAAAUCAAAUACAAAUUAGUAGGUGACCCGAGAAGGCAAUUAGAGAACCUAAGGAGUCAUUAUUCUAGAGCCCCUAAACCUAGGAGGUUCCUUCUAGCCCAUGCAAAAAAAAAAAAGAAAAAGGAUUCAGAUGGCUACUAGAAAAGAACACAUCUUUACUAGGAAACUACAAGACAUUGUGGGCAUCGAUCCCCAAGUUACAUCUCAUCGACUCAACAUAAACCCUAGUGGUUAGCUCCUUAAAGACAUUAGAUUGUGAAAAAAAGGUAUCUAGGCUCUUAUAUGCUAGAUUUGGUCAUCUAGGUCUUCUAACAACAAAUAGAAGUUAGUAUGCUAGUGUACAUUAAUAAAAUGUUAGUAACAAGUAAGAAGAGGAAUGAGUACUUGAUCGACCUCCUAAGAACAUUUCAAGCUCUUCAAAAGUAUUAAAUGAAGCUAAAUCAGUGAAGUGCACCUUUAAUGUAGGGUAUGGAAAGUUCCUUAGGUACUUGGUUAUAUACAAAGGAAUGAAAGCUAACCCAGGCCAAAUAAAAUCAACUUUGGAGAUACCAAUGACCAAAAGGGCUAGAGAAGUCCAAAAGCUAACUAACAAGAUUGGUUCUUGAAAUAGAUUUAUAUAUUGAACAACAACUAUGUGUCACCCUUUCUUCGACAUUAGCAAGAAGGGAAAAUGGACUAAAAGAACCAAAAAAUGCAACUAAGCCUAUGAAUCACUAAAGCAUUACAUGAUGCUAACCCCCAUUCUAGAUAAACCCUAGGAUAAGGAGGUCUUACAAGGUCUCGAUAGCAGUAGUAAGUGGAGUGUUAUCUCAAAAAAAGAGGAAAAGAGGAGCAACCAAUGUACUAUAUCUAACAGACCCUCUUAGAUGUGGAAACCUGAGAUAUUUAUAAAUAUUGAAAAAUUGGUGCUUGCCCUUUAGAUCACCACAUUGAAGCUUCAAUGUUACUUCCAAGCGCAUGUUAUUAAGGUAAGAACUAAGUGAUGAGAACUCAAACUUAAUACUUUAAUGGCUUUAAAGAGCCUACUUUAGUGUAUUUGAGGUACUAAAAAAUUAACCUAAGGUUUUGUUUUUUUUAUAACACCUUAGAAAAUUAUGUUUGAUGCAUUCUGUGACCGUUCUACAUGUUUUAAGGUGUUUUUUUGUUAGGAUAGAAUCCUUAAAAGCAUGACAUGAUGUAAUAAAUUUGGAAUUCAUUAUUUAUUUAAUGAUGUUCUAGUUUCACUUUUAUCUAUCCUUAUUCCAUGUAUUGUACUUUAUGAGUAUUCUUGCCUACAUAUUUUGCAUUGUACAUGACUUAGGUGCAUUAGGAGUUGCACAGAAGAUUUAAGUCAUGGGUUUCUUGCAAAUAGAUUAUUUGUUCAGAGUCGGUUCAUGAGCCUAGGCAAACCAUUAGAGGUUGUAGAGCACCACCUCCUAAUUGGAGGGAUGGUUAGUCUUGGCCAUGGGAUGAGUUUCCCAUGAUAAGUGCACUAGUGUGUAUGGUUGCACAUUGGAUGGGACCUAUGGUGAGUUAUGACUUAAGCCUAUCAAGUAGUCAUGACUCCACCGAGCUGUUUCAUUGUAUUAUCUCUCAACCUUGAGAGAAUAUUGAGUUUGUGCUAAAGUUAAUAAUGGCUUUGAUUUAUGGGUGAGGUCGUAAGUUGAUCAUAUAUUCCCUAUGGAUUAGGUCAAUGUUGAUGGAAGUCGGUAACAAUAGGUAUUCUUAAUAAAGGCACCAUGAUAUCUCUUAGGAUUGAGACAGUGUGUCCCAUUGGGUGAUCAUAAGGAGGUGUGUUCAUGGAAACUAUGGCUAUAGUAGUUCCUUAAGUGGAAUUUGACAUAGACUCUUUGAGAUUUAAGAUAUGUUAAUUGAACACACAAUAGGAAGAUUUGUAGCUCAAGGAUGGUAGAAGUAGUCUUGAAAAGCUGAUGGCUUUCACCUUGUUAGACUACGAACACCAAUUCAUGGGGAGACUAAACAUAAUGGACAGUAGGUCACGGACCCGAGCACUUAGUGUCUUCGUUGUUAGUUACAUAGGAUACCGGAGUUUAGUUGAUUCUCUAUAGUGCGAUAUUGAAUCAACUUUAAAAUUGGACUAUGAGGGAUCCAUGGUAUUCCUAUAGGUCCCAAUGGCCCCCGCUAUGAGCUUAUAUACCUUGUUGGAAUGGGUAAUGAGGGUUGGAUUGACUCUAGGUUCACUUUUGUGCAUAAGGGCAUUUUGGUAAUUAUGUAAGGUUAUAUAGGAGUAAAUGAACAAGGCCUCUAGAUUAGGCUAAUUGAUUAAUUAGUAGGUCCUAUUAGGUUAAUUAAUCAAUUAGAACCCAUUUUGGGCUAGAUUAAGUGACACAACCCAAGUGGGCUCAAGUCACUUAAGCCCACUUAGAAACCCUAUAAAUACCCCUUAGGAGUUAGGGUUUCCAUAACUUUUGUCUUCCAUCAUCCAGAGAGAUAGAGAGUCAUAGCCUUCACCCUCUUUUCCUCCUCAUUGGAAAUGUGCCAAGAUCAAGGUUCAAGUCAUCGGGCGGAAGACUUCGAGUUUACGAGACUUCUGGGAUUUCAAUUUUCAUCUUCACCAUGUGGAUUUGAUUCGAGAACACCUGAAUCUAAUGUAUAGUUUUUGUUAGCACUUUUUGAAUCCUUUUAAAGUAUAAAAAUGUUAUUUUUCCGUUGUGCAUAGGAUUUAGAAAAAACCUAAGAUAUUUAUGCAUGUUCCUAACCUGAUUCGGACUAGGGAAACAGAGAGAGAUUCAGGUUUUUCCCAUCAUUUUUGGUGCAAUAGAACCUUGUUAGGAACUCAUAGAGACAAAAAUGCCCAAGUAAGGAGGAAAUACAGAUUGCACACCCAAAAGGUGUGCAAGACUCAAUCAUGCACUUCUUUCUUUGUGUAGAGCCACAUAGUGCACCUCCCAUGUAUACCUUAAAGACUAAACAUACAAGACCUCUCUAAUGCUUUGGACCAAAUUUUAUACCCUAUUCAAGCAACUCAAUCUACAAACCUCUUAAGUGCUUUAAGCCAAGAUGUUGUGCACCCCCUCACUUGAGUCAACAGGAUGUGUAGUAGUGCAACCCCUUGAUGUCAUCUAAAUUACAAACCAUUCUUACCUCUACAAUAGCUAAGUACUUAAUAAUUCUUCUAAUGAUUGGCUCACCCACCAAAGUAGUAUGUUGUUCAUACCUCAAAGUCUUCAAUUGUACUACCAAAAUGUACUCUGACCAAAUUACAUAGAGAAAAAGGUGCAACUACCGACCAUAAGCUAACACAUCAAGAAUGAAGGUGGGUUGAUUGUAAUGACAAAGGACUUGACCCUUAGUAUAAGAAGAGACAAGUCUAGAGGAGUGGUGUCGGAGUAUUAGAAUGACCGGGAAGGGAGGGGGGGCAUUUUUUUGUAUAUAAAUGGAGGAUUGUGAAUAUACAAGUGGAAGCAAAUUAUAGAAAGUGAAAUUGUAGAUAAGUUUUUCUUCUUAUAGGAAGAGAAGUAGGAAUAAGAGUAACUUAAUGUAAUUUAAGUUUUUAGUUUUCCACUGUAAUCUUUUCUUUUCAUUAUAAACUUUCCCUAAUUUCUAGUUUAAUGAAUUUUCUAAUCUUUUUAAUUAUUCUUACAUUUCAGUUUUUCAAUUUCAACUUACAAAUUUGCAUUUUUAGUUCUUUACUUAAUUUUUAACAUGCUUAGAUAACCUUUAACACUCUAAGGGGUGAGAGGAGCUCAAGUCUCCCAUAUCUUAGUUUAGCUGUCUAUUGGUUUAUCUGUGCAUUAGUUACAAACAAUAUGAUCUCUAUCAGUAGUUAUAAUGACCAAAACAAGUAACCAUGGGGAAAAAGUCUAUGUUGCAUUGGUUGUGAGCAUUGUAAGUCAAGCAACUUUGGAAGCAUACUUAGGCAUUGUUUUAAUGAUUCUUUCAACUAAGUAUAGGCCUAUUGCCAUGAAAAGAAUCUUAUCUAAAUCAUUUGGUUGUAAGGAUAUAUAUAUAUAUAUAUAAAGAGCAAUUAGAGAGAGAUUAACCUUUUUAAGGUGGUUCUUGUUCAUUUGAAGCAGGAAACCUUUUUUGUAUAAAUCCUUGCUUUGAGCCUAAAUCUGAAAGCAUAAGUUUAAAGCCUUGUUGGUGAGUUGUAUCUGAAAGUGGUGAUCCUAGUGAAUCUCUAGGUUUGAGGUUUUCUUUCCUUUAAUUUUCUAUCUUUUAAACUUUGUGUGUGUAUGUCCUUUUUAUUUAUAAAAUCAUUUUUCUAAUCUUUUAGCUGCCAUUCACACUCCUGAAGCUAUUACCUUAGUUGCUACCAAUUUAAAGUUCCUUGUGGAGGCAACCUAACAACUAUACCACUAUUAAUUUUUUUAUUUUUUGGUUAAGGAGUUGAGAGUUUCAAUGAAUGAUCUAGUUUAAUUUCUCUUUGUAAAACUUAACUGUUAAAUAUAUUUCCAAGUUUUGAUAAAAGAAAUGAACUAGAGAAUGACAAACCAAAAAUUAGUGUCGUCACUAGGGAACUUUCAACAUUGAUGACUCUAGGUAUUUUUGUGUAUAUGCUUGUUGUUUUAGAAGCUUAACAAGUAUAUUUCACCCAUUCCCCACCUAUCUUUUAGUUGGAUUUUUUUCUUUUUUUACUUAAUUUGUUUUCUUUGGAUUUUCUUUUUAUUCUCAGUUUUCAUUUUUAGUUGUUAAAUCCAACAUUUCAAACAUUUUCUUUAAAGUGAUAUGAUGUCACUACAAGAAAAAAGAGAUAUGGUGACAUUUAUAAUGAGUCAUUAUAAACAUAGGGUGUCGCUACAACAUAGCGUCACCUUAUCCACUGACACCAUAGAGGGUACCAAUUGGUGACGUAUUUGGAAGCGACACCAAAGCAAAUAAAUGGUGACACAUUCAGAAGCGACACCAUAUAUUUUUAGUUAUACUUAAUUUAGUUAUAUAUAAGGUGUCAUAUUAAAUGCAUCACCUUUUAGUUAUGGUGUCACAUUAAAUGCAUCACCUUUGAGUUAUGGUGUCACAUCAUUGUAAAUGAUUAUGGAAGAUAUGGUUGUUUUUUAUUAAUUAGCCUGUUGAUUUUUGUAAUGCUUAUUAACAAAUAAGAUCAACUUAUGUAUAUUUUGUCCAUAAAUAUAAUAAUCAUAUCAUAUUUAACUUAUAUUUUCGUAAUGCUUAUGGAUUAACCUGUAAUACAUUACAUCAUGCAGUGAUAUUUGUAUAUCAAAUGUUUACAAAAUGAUAGUACAUCAAACCCACCGAAACUAAAAAAAAAAAAGUGAAUACAUAUUAAAAUAUGAUUUAGAAAUGUUAAGCAUUCCAACAUUCAUGUAUACCUGCAUUUCAUAUGCAUAAAACCGGCUAAUCAUAAAAUGACACAAGAGUUGCAUCCAAAAACCCAAAAUUCUCAAUACCAAAUAAAGUAACAUUGAUGUCCUAUAAUAUAUGACAUAAGAGUCACAUCUAAAAACCCAAAAUGUUGUUGUUUCUUUCUCCUUUCUUUUUAUUCUUCAUAAUGUCUUCCCAAGAGUGUAUACCUGCAUUUCAUAGUUUAAUGAGAUUUAGAGUUUUAUUGAAAAUAAAAAUUAAUUGAUGUUAUAAAAAAUAAACAAAUCUAAGUACUAAUGUUUUCUUUUUUUCUUUUUCCCAUUUUGAUAUAAAAAUAAUUUGUAAAGAAUAAGUAAUGUUAUACAAUACCAAUGGAAAAUUCAUAUAACAACUAAGAGACUCGCCAUGCAUGAUCAUGAUUUAUCAAUAUGAUUCAUAAUUAGUUAUAACACAAAAGAAGUUAAUUCUCCUCUAAUUUCAUCAAAUUCUACUUGAGAAUAUGAUAUUUUUUUUUAGUUUUUUGUUUAUCAUAAAACUGAAAUCAAAUGAGAAUAACAUUAAUAUUAUAAUAAUUAGAAGUAUGAAACUAAGUACAAUUCAUUAAAUGAGUAAAAUAUUUAAUACAAUAAUUGUAAAAUCAACAAUUAUCUCUUUAAUGAAUCUCAUAACAAAGCAGUCACAUUUGAACUCAAAUAAAAACAAUUCAAGAAAAUAAAAAAUAAAGAAAAACUAGAAAAUAAAAAAAUAAAUCUAAAAUUUUAGAAAAUAGUAAUCUUCCACUUAAAAUCUGCACUUUUUAAAUUUAUUUUUUAUAAUUCAUUGUGCUUUUAAAAAUCAUUUUUAACAUUUAAUUCUUUUUAUAUAUUUUUUUAUUUCUUGGAAGGAUUUUUUUAAUUUCAAUAUUUUUUUAAUGUUCAUUUUGUGAAAUAACAAUGUCCAUUAAAUUUCAUCUCAAUUAUAUAAAAUAAAAUUUUAGUAACAAAAUAUAAAAAUGUUUUCAACUACUAAUAUGAGAGGACAUGAUAUUAUAACAAGCUUGAAGAUUGUGUAUAUAAGACAAAAAACCUAAUUCAUUAUUAAAAAAUAUUAAGAAAAAAAUUAGUAUGAGAAAGAAUUAAAGAACCUUUCAUAAAAAUUAUUAAUUUUUCAGUCAUAACUCCAAUUAAUAUUUAUUUUUUCUAAUUAAAAUAAUUAAUAAAAAAUUUGGAUAUGAAAAAUAUGUUCAAAUAAAAAUAAUAAAAGAUUAAAAACAUCAAAGGAAAAGAUAUUCAAUAUUUUAAAUUUUACUUUUGAUAAUCUUUAGAUCAAUAAAUUAUCAAAUAUCUUUUUAGAAAAAGGAAAAAUGAAGAAAAUGAAGAGUUUUAUGGAAGGGAUUGGAAAAUUUUUUGUAAUAAAAGGAUUUUAUAGAAAUUUCCUAACCUUGAAAGGAAAAUUUCAUCAUCAAUUUCAAAUUACUCCAAAAUUUGGUCAAUGCAUAUAAACAAUAAGAAAAGAAGACAAAAAUAAAACAAAUUUUUAGAAUCCUUUUGAGGGAGAUGACAAUAUUGAGAAUAAUUUUCUCAAAAAUUAUGGAAGGAAAAUUUAUGUAAUAAAAGGAUUUUAUAGAAAUUUUUUAACCUUGAAAGAGAAAUUUCAUCAUCAAUCUCAAAUUACUCUAAAUUUUGGUGAACACAUAUAAAAACAAUAAGAAAAGAAGGUAAAAAUAAAAAUAAAAAAACAUAUUUUAAGGAUUAAGUAAAAUAUGAAUAGAACAAGAUGAGAUAUUAACCAUAAUACCAUGUAAAAGAAUUUUAAAAAAAAAAAUCAAAAUAUGAGAUUUGAUCAUUUUUAUAAUUAUAAAAAAUUUCAUUCCUAUUUAAAUUUUAAAAAACAAUUCAUUUUCAUUAAUAAAUAGAAAAUAAAAUUAAUUUCUCAUUGUUAAUUCCAACAUUCUAAACCAACUCCAACAUGAGAUGGAAACUAUUUCAUUUUUCCUUUUGUGGGAGAUGACAAUAUUGAGAAUAAUUUUCUAAAAAAUUAUUUUUCAAAUAUCACCAAUACAUAUCCUCAUCACAAUAUACUAUAAUAUUCCUAGAAAACAAACAUAAAAUCUCAUCAAAAGAAAUUUCUUAUAAGAUCAAAAGAAAAUUUCAUACUGUAAAAUGUUUAUCCCUCAUUUUGAGUAUGAAAGAUAUUAAAAAAUCAUUCAUUUAUCAUAUUUUCAUUCGUUUUGGGGUUUGUGGAUUUAACAAUGAAAUAAAAGAUAUGGUGGAAUGCUAAACCUAAUUUUUACUUUCCUGCAACUCAAUAAAAAAAACACUAUUUACACAAUCUACAUUACAAAUAUACCAAAUCAAUGAAUGUAAAUCAGUUAUGCUAAUAAAGAUUUUGGUUUUAAUAAAAAAGAAAAAGAAAAUGAUAGAUCUAAGAGAUUUUGGGUUACCUGAGAGUCCAUGAAGUAGAGAAGAGCAGUUGUGUGUGAACUAUGGGUGUGAGAAGAGAGGUAGAAGAAAGUUAUGGUUAUGGGUUAUGGAAUGAGAUUUUUUUGGAUUGUGGGAAUGUGGAAACAAUGAGUUUUUUUUAUAUACAAUCAUUAUUCUCAAAGUGGGCCCAUUUAGUUAUAAUAUUUUAAAAUUUUUAUUUUAUAUGGUGUCACUUUUUUAAAACUGACACUAAACUUAAAAUUAAUAUCAUCUAUCCUAAUUAAAAAUUUUUAUAUGAUGUGUCACCUUUAUGAAUUUUAAUUCAUAUGGUGUCAUUAUUUUAAAAGUGACACCAUAAAUAGUGACACCAUAAAUUAUUUUUGUUGUAGUGUGUAUUAGGGAAAUGAUUUUAAAGGAAGGGUACUAAGAGUGAGUUUGAGAGUGAUUCUAUGAAGUGUUUCUAACAUUUCUAACACUUGAGUGAUAAAAUGAUGAUCUUCAAGGCAUCAUCAGAGGGCUUCUCAAUAUCUCUUCUACUGAAAAAAAUUUCUUGACUGAAAGUGGCUCUUAACUAGAGGGGAGGGCAUCCCAAAAAUUUUAGGAAACCAUGAAGAAAAAUUUAUCAAAAUGGAUGCUUCCAAUCUACCUGUGGGAAGUAAAGAAAAAGUGAAGAGCCAUUGGUUAGCUAGAAGCUAGCCAAAAACUUGUAAAUAGCUUUCAUUUUUUAUUUUCUUUAUUAUUUUUGUUUUUAUUGCUUUGGCCAAUUUAGUGUGUAGGAGUACCAUCAUAAGAACUCAAGUAUAAAUUUCUCUAUACUCUAUUGGUUUUAUCAUGCUUCAGAGUAGGUGUACAUUGUUAGCACCAGGAAAGUGUAGGACAUAUAGGAAUUGCGCACUUUUGAGGUUUGCUAACCCAACUUGUAUGAUGACUUAAAUUGCGUAUCUCAAAUUGUACACUUUGAAAGCAUGACUGAAACUCCACACCCUAAGAGAUUAAUUUAAGCGCAACUAAAAACUGCACACCUUUAAGCAACCAUUGAUAUUGCCCAGCUUAAAUUACACACCAUAAGCACGCCAUCCAUAAUAAAAAUGCCUUCCCAAAUAAAACCAUAAUUGCUUAGAGACUUUUGUCCACCCCACCAUCAUAUCAAUUGAGCAUUUGAAGCCAACCAAACUAAUUAUUAUCCAAAGACAGAAAAUUAAUUAAACAGGAUUAGUAUAAAAGAAAAUAACUUGACUUAUAAACAAAAGCAAGGGAGAUGCAAUGGCAAACACAAAGCAAUUUAAAAGGGGCAAGCGAGUAAAGAAACUAACAGUGAUAUAUUAUGAGUUGCCAUAAGUUGAAGUGACUUCCACUUCGGAAAGCCCAAGGCCUUUUAGCCAAUACCGUCAAAGGGGCUUUAUCAUCAUCAGAAUAAAUAUCAUCAUCAGAAUCUUUAGCAUCACCGAAAUUGCAUGUGGCAAGGUCAGGAUAACGUUUAACCAGAUACAGUGCUACAUCUGCAUAUUAUAAAAUUGUACAUGGGAACCCGACAGUAAUUCAUAUCAAGAAAAUAGAUAGGGGAUGGUAAAUAUAGCUCACCAUGAAACCCCACCAUUAGUGCUCUGCGCAGAAGUUCGAUUCCAGGCGAAUUUGAGAAAGGAUAUGGAUCUACAUCAUCUCUGGUGACGCUAAAUAAAUAUAAAGUCAGCUCUUUAUGACCAUACCUAACAGCGCUGUGAAGAGGCGCUAAAUUGCUGUGGCUGCAGAUAUUGGGCAAGCUUGGGUUUUUGUUCACUAACAACUUGGCUGCUUUUAUAUUGCCAGCCCUUGCAGCUUUGAAAAGGGCAGUGGCGCCAUCAGAAUCUCGCAGAGCCAGUGCCUCUCUUGGGACAAACUCAACCAACUUCUCCACGAAACCCAUUCUGGCCUCUCCUAACUCAACUGCUAUGUGAAGCAUUGGGGAAUCAUCUGUUCCGAUCGGAGCGGAGAAUGAUUUUGGAUCAUCCUCCAAUAAUUUUGAAGCACUUUUCCAGUCACCAUUGAGCACAGCUUUGUGCAGUUCCAAGUAGUAGAUUAAUUCUGGUUCAUAGAAUUCUGCAGUCACAAAACCAAAAGAAGUAUAGGUCAGCCUAGAUUUCCCUGAUAUGUAUAUUUCUUCAACGUUCACAACAUCCUAAUACUAAAAUUAUUUAUAAAAAAUAAAUCAUUUCAGUUAUGUUUGGUUCUUAAAAAAUUUGACAAAAAAUAAAAGGGAAAGAAAGUAAAUUAAAAAAAUAGAAGGUAAGAAAGAGUGAAAUAAAAUAGAUCCAAAAUCAAUAAAUUAUUUAUUUUUAUAUGCUACUCAUUUCACUUAUUUUAACUAUUCAAUAUAAAAAUUAAAUAAUUUAAAAUUUCAUAAAUUUAUAAUUAAUUUAAAUUAUAUUUGAUUUUCUUAAAUAUUUUCCUCAAUACAACCAAAUAUGAGAAAAUCAUUUUCCUUGAUAUCUUUUUUUUGCUAAUUAUUUUCUUGGGCUUCUUUGUUUACCUCUAAUCAACAUCUUUAUAUCUUUCAAUAAUAGUUUGAACCUCCAAUAAGCUACACGAAUUAAAAUUUAAUUUUCUUCCAUUUUUUUUUUUAACAGCAGGUUGUAAAACACUUCUACUUGUAUACUAAUUAUGCCCAAAAGUUGCAGGAGGACCUCAAACGGAAAUGGACAUGAACAUGGUUUUCAGCAUCUUACCGGAGCUACUAGUCCUUUGCAAAGAUGAAGAUAAAACCGCUGAAACAUUUUCAUCAGUAUCCUGCGCCAUAUUGAUGCUGCUACAGUUAGGAUUGUUUGGGCUGUCAUCGAUUACCGAGAGUGGUAAUGAAGAGGAAGCCAUUACAGUGAACUCCUCAUCAUGCUCAGCAAUGUCCGUGUUACUGUUUUUAGGACUGUUUGCGCUGUUGUCAUUUCUAAGACGUAGUGAAGAAGAAGAAGCCAUUACAACAAAUUCCUUAUCGUUCUUAUAGUCAUUGCCAUGUUUAGCGAAGUUAUUCUAAUGUGUAAUAGAAAACCUAAACAAAAUCUGCAGUUGACAAAGGUCAAAAUUAACUUACCUCGCAGAUGGAUUUGUUAUCCAUGAUAGAAGAUUAUAUUUAACUAUAUCGAGGCAGGGAAGAUACUCUCAUCCAAAGAGAAACAACAGCAGCCCUUUUUCCUACUGUCUUCAAAAGAUACAGGAAAUAGGCCAGGAACCAUUGAAGCAUAACAGGUGCAAUGGUAGAGUCUUCCAAGUCAACUUUGUUUAUUUAGUUGAGUAAUUGGUAAGCACUAGAUAGCGUUGAAACGUUAUGACUGGUGGAUGAAAAUGGAAAAUAAUAGGCAUAUAUGAUUUAUUCAUAUAUAAAAUAAACAACGAAAAUUAGGGGGUAACUUCGAGCUGUUUGUUUUCACAUGAUUUCUUCUCUCCGUGUUGCUGGGCAUGGAUCUCCACUGACAUAGAAGCAACUAGGUCUUUUCUUUUGCUUUUUCUUUUUAAUUUUUCAUGUUUUAUUUUAAGAUGAUAUCCAGAAGUAGUAGGUAUGGUAUAUGAAUUUCACUUAGAAUGAUAAACAUUCAUAGAGCCAAAUGUAAAUCCGUACUAUUGGGCAUAAUAUUAUCGAGCCAUGCUUGGUUACCGAAAAUUACUCCAAGGUAUCAUACCCACCUUUUAGGCCAAUAAAAUUAAGAAACAUGGCAAGGAAAUUAAAAAAAACCAAUUCUCCAGGUUUAGCAAGGUUGCCGAGGGAAUUAAUCAUGUGCACCACACAUUGCUAUCAUCAUUUACAAUAACCAAUUAUAUAAAAUCUGUUGAAAUAUUUUAUAUAAUUAACUUUUGGAAUUUUUUUAUCAGGUAGUAAAAUAAAGAAAAUUUAGGAAAAAAUAUUUUUAUAAAAUGAUAAAGUUUGACAAAAACGAUAAAUUUUUUGUAAAGUAUUGAAAAGGAUACAAGGCUAUGAAUUCAUAAUUGUAUGAUAACCUUUUAGUAUUUCAAUCUUUGAAUUUUUUUUGGAGAUUAUUUCCAUAAAUUCUAAGGAGAAUUGUGUUUCCACCCUAGCUGGGUUGGAUAAUUGAGGUAAGGUCCUCCUAUCACCCAUAAUUAAAUUCAAAACCCAAGGAAAGAAUAGAAAUUGAGAGGAAGGAUAUCGCUUUUAAAAAAUCCCUAAAAUACCCUUAACUAUCAAAUGAAAAAGCUACCAGUCACUCUUACCUUUCUCUUUUCUUUCUUUGACUUUUUCACCAUUCUCUCACUUAUUUAUUAGUGGGAUCAAGUUAAAUGAUUUACCAAUUAUUUUUCUUCAACAAAUUGAACAUGAAAGAUAAAUAGUUAAAAAUUAUUAUUGUCAAAUGCAUUUUUGAAGUAAAUAAUUUUUAAAUACCUUAUCAAAUAUUAUUCUUUUUUUCAAACUUACAUAAUAUAUAAUAAAUAUUAUUAUUUAUUUCAAACUUAUAUUAUUUCUUAUAUAUAUUAAACAAUUUGUAAACAUCUCAUAAAAUAUUAGUAUUCUUUAUUUGUUCUAACUUGUAAAUUAGACAUCAUUAAAUUUUUUUUUUCAAACUUAUAAAAUAUAUAAUAAAUAUUUUUUAAAUACCUAAGCAAAUAUUUUUUUUGUUUCUUACUUAAAAAAUAAUAAAUAUGUUGUAUAUUAUUUCUCAUUGGUCUUAAUGGCAUAGUUUGGUAAAAAAAACAAAAAAGAGAAAAAAAAAAAACAAUCAAUAAUCGUUCUAAUGUCAAACUCAAGUUGAUUAAAAAACAUACAAAACCUAUUAGGAGUCCUGUACACCCUUGUACACUUGACAUAUUUCCCUUAUACAAUUAGUGUAAUAUCAUACAGUGGUGCAAAUUUCAUUUCCCUCCUAAUUUAUUGUCCAUGUAGGUGUAUUAAACAUAUUUUUAAUCAUUUGGUUGAGAAAAUUGUGGAUGACUUAUGGUUAAAUUUUUUUCCACCGACAUCAUUAUUGGGGAAAACAUUAGAAUUUCCAUAUGGGAAUUAAAUAAAGUGUAUGACAUGAGUAUACAAUUCUUGGGCGACAAGGAAAAUAAAGGAGUAAUUCAUAAUCGAUUGAAAUUUUUCACAAAUACUAGUUUUGUACAUCCUUGUACACUUAAUAUAUUUCUCUUAUAUAAUUAGUGUAAUGAGUAUACAAUUCUUGGGUGACAAGGAAAAUAAAGGAGUAAUUCAUAAUUGAUUGAAAAUUUUCACAAAUGCUAGCAUUGUACAUCCUUGUACACUUAAUAUAUUUCUCUUGUACAAUUAGUGUAGUACCCUUGUACAGUUAAUGUAACACCCUUGUACAGUGGUACAAAUUUCAUAUUCUUCCUAAAUUAUGUAUCCACGUAGGUGUGUUAACCAUGUUUCUAAUUGUUUGGUUGAGAAAAUAUUGGAUGACUCUGGGUCAAAUUUUUUUCCCUAAACAUCAUUGCUAGGGAAAGUAUUGAAAUUUUUAUGUGAGAGUUAAAUAAAGUGUAUGACAUGAGUGUACAAUAUGUUGGCAACAAGGAAAGUAAAAUGGAGUGGUUCAAAAUCGAUUGAAAUCUUUCACAAAAGGUAACCUUAUACACCCUUGUACACUUAGUACAUUUUCAUUGUACAGUUAGUGUAAUACCCUUGUACAAUGACACAAAUUUCAUAUCUCUCUAAGUUAUGUGUUCACAUAGGUGUAUUAAUCAUAUUUUCAAUGGUUUGAUUGAGAAAAUGGUGAAUGACUUAGGGUCAAAUUUUUUUCUCCAAACAUCAUUACCGUAGAAAGUAUUGAAAUUUCCAUGUAGAAGUUAAAUAAAGCGUAUGACUUAGGAUUAAACUCUUUUAAGUCUUUUUAUUAUUUUCAUAUGAAAAAAUAGUAUUAAACAAGGUUUUGAAUUUUCAUUUUUAAAAAUAGUUUUCAUUUUUUAAUUAAACAUAUUUUCUAAAAGAGACCAUAUAGAAAAUAAAAAUUAUUUAAAAAAUAAUAAAAAAUAAAAAAUAGAAAAAUAUUUUUAAACCAAACUCAAACACAAUCUAUAUAAUUUUUAUUUUUAUUUAUCUGAAAUGAGUAAAUAUACCUUUUAACCCUUUUAUUUAAGAAAAAUUUAAUAUCUACUAUAUAUAGUUAUAAUUCACUUCUAAAAUUAAGUCAUACAAAAACAUUUUAAUUGUAUAUUUAAAAUAAAAACUCUUCAUCCAUCCUAUUUCUCUCUUUUACUCUUUUUUUUUGGAUAAAUUUUCAAUUAAUUCAAAUCAUUAAAAAAAAAUCUUUAUUAAACAAAUUUACAACAUUUCAUAUAACUUAUUACUAAAAGUCAUGUUCAAAAAGUUAUUAAAACAAGAAAGAAAGAAUUUUUUUAAAAAUAAAAAAGUAAAAAAUUGAACCUUUUAGUUUAUAAUAGGAAAAAGAAAAUUUUAAAAUACUUUUUAGUAUAAAAGAAAAGAAAAUAGUGAAUGUAUUUAUUUUAAAUAGUGUUUUAAUCAUUAAAUUAUUUACUUCUAAAAUAUAAAAGAUAAUUUUUAUUUAUUUAAAUUAACAUUUUUUAGAAAACAUUUUUCAAAAUAGUUUUUAAAUCAUCAAUAUAAUUUUUGUUUAUUUAUAAUUUAAAAAUAUAAAAUAAUGUUAAUUUUUCAAUUAUUUAUAAAAAAGUUUAAAAAAACCAAUGAAAAAUAAAAAAAUGGUUAAAGAAGAGAGAAUGUGUUAAUAGUGGCAUGUAAAGAGUGGUAGAAUAAAGACAAAAAUGAGUAAAGGGGUAUUUGUGUCCAUUAUCAUCUCAUCUCCUUGUAAUCAAUUAUGAGUGAUAGGAGGACUUUAGCUUAAUUAUCCACCCCAACUGGGGUGAAAACACAAUUCUCCCUAAAUUCUAUAUUCCAAAAACAAUGAUAAUAUUUACACAAUAUUAUUGUCAUUCAAAGUGGGAAAAAAAUAUACAAAUAAAAAUUUCAAAAAAAAUUAGAGAUUACAAAGAAUAUAAGGAUACGAUGAAUGUGAGGAUUGUCAUAUUUUUCAUACCCUCCUCACAUUCUUCAUGCCCCAACUCAUUUGAAUAUUUUAAUCUUUUAAUUUUUCCAAACAUUAUUUACUUCAAUUGCAAGUGUAAUUAGUGUUUUUACACAAUAUUAUUGUCAAAUGAAGUAAAAAAAAAAUUCAAAAUUAAAAUUUUUAAAACAUUUAGAGGGUACAAAAAUGUGAAGAGGGUACAAAGAAUGUGAAGAGCCUCGCAUUUCUUGUACCCUCCUCACAUUCUUCAUACCUAUUGCAAUUUUAAAAUUUUUUAAUCUUUCAAUUUUUUCGAACAUUAUUUGCUUCAAUUUCAAGUGUAAUUAAGAUUUUUACCCAAUAUUAUCAUCUAGUGAUGUGAAGAAAAACUUAAAAUUAAAAAAUUUUAGAGGGUGCAAAAAAUGUGAGAAUAGUAUGAUGAAUGUGAGGAGGGUGCAAGGAAUGUAAAAAGGGUAUGAGAAAUGUGAGGGUACAAGAAAUGAAUAUAUAUAUAUAUAUCAUACUCUCCUCACUUUAUUUGUACCCCUACAAAUUUUUUAAUAUUUUAAUCUUUUAAUUUUUUUGAACAUUAUUUGCUUCAAUUUCAAGUGUAAUUAGUCUUUUUACAAUAUAUUAUUGUCAAGUUACUUAAAAAUAAAAAUUUAAAACAAUUUAGAGGGUACAACAAAUGUGAGGAGGGUGCGAGAAAUGUGAAGAGGGUACAAGAAAUGAAAAAACAAUAAAAAAUAAAUUUCUUGUACUCUCCUCACAUUCUUUGUAUUCCCACCAAUUUUUGAAUAUUUUAAUUUUUUUCGAAUAUUAUUUGCUUCAAUUUCAACAAAAUUCUUGUACCCUCCUCACAUUUUUCAUACCCCACCAAUUUUGUAAAAUUUCAAUAUUUUAAAUUUUUUUUAACAUUAUUUAUUUCAAUUUCAAGUGUAUUGAGUCUUUUUACACAAUAUUAUUGUUGAGUGAAGUGAAAAAAAACAUAAAAUUAAAAUUUUCAAAAAAUUUAAACAAAAAAUGUCAAAAGGGUAUGAAGAAUGUGAAUAUGGUACAUGAAAUGUGAGGGUAUAAGAAAUGAAAAAACUAAAUUCUCAUACCCUUUUCACAUUUCUCGUACCUUCCUCACAUUCUUUGUAACUUCACAAACUUUUGAAUACUUUAAUCUUUUAAUUUUAACUCAUCUAACCCUUAUAAACAGUGUCAUCAAGGAAUAUGAGCUCAAAAUAAGAACCAUUGGGAUCCAUAGGAGUACUAGCUCUCUUAGAAUAAUAUUUUGAAAUUGAUUCAACAUCUCACUACAAAGAGUCAACUGCACUUUAAUACCCUAUGUAUAUUACAACAAGACACCAAGUACUUGGAUAUGUGAUCUACUAUCUAUUGCAUGCAAACUCUCUAUAAACCGGUGUCUGUAAUCUAAUAAGGUAGUGUUGUCACCUAUCAAAAUUACCCCUCAAAUCCUUUAGUUACAGAUCUCACUUAUUAUGUGAUCAAAUGACAUUCUACCUCCAAAGAGCAUAUGUUAAAUUCCACUAAAGGAAUUACUAUGGCCACAUAUUUCAUUAUCACAUGUCCUCUGGAUCACCCCAGGGGACAUAUUGUCUCAAUCCCAUGAGAUAUCAUGGUGCCUCUAUUGAGAAUACCUAUUGUCAUCAACCUCCAUAAACAGUGACCCAAUUCAUAGGGAUAUAUGACCACUUUAGGGUUUCACUCAUAGGUUAAAGUCUUCUAUUAAUUUUGGCACAAACUCAAUAUCCUCUAAGGUUGAGAGUCUAUGCAUUAUAGUAGCUUGGUGAAUCAUGACAAUUGAUAGUCUUGCAUCAUGAUUCACCGUAGGUCCUAUCUAGUGUGUAUCACAUACACUAGUACACUCAUCAUAGGAAACCCAUCCCAAUGACCAAGACCAGUCAUCCCUCCAAUUAGGAGGUAAUGCACUAUAGUCUUUCCACUUUGGAAAGCCCAAGGCCUUUUAGCCUAUACCAUCAAAGGGGCAAAAUCAUCAUUAGAAAGCAUCAUCGUGGCAAGCGGAAUCGAAAUUGCAUGUGGCAAGGUCAGGAUAACAUUUAACCAAAUACAGUGCUACAUCUACAUAUUGUAAAAUUGUACAUGGGAACACAACAAUAAUUCAUAUCAAGAAAGUAGAUAGGGGAUAGUAAAUAUAGCUCACCAUGAAAUCUCACCAUUAGAGCUAUGUACAGAAGUUUGAAUCCAGGCAAGUCUGGGGGAAGGACUUGGAUCUACAUAUCUUUGGUGACGCUUAAUAAAUAUAAAGUUAGAUCUUCAUGACCAUAGCUAACAGCGGAGUGAAGUGGCGUUUAAUUGUUGCAUUGGCAAAUAUUGGGCAAGCUUGGCUUUUUGUUCACUAACAACUUGGCUGUUUUAUAUUGCCAGCCCUCAGAAUGUUGAAAAAGGCAAUGGCGUUAUCAGAGUCCUGCAAAUCCAGUGCCUCACUUGGCAUGAACUCAACCAACUUCUCCACAAAACCCAUGUUGGCCACUCCUAACUCAAUUGCUAAGUGAAGCACUGGGGCACCAUCUGUUCCAAUCAGGGCAGAGAUUGAAUUUGAAUAAUGCCUCAAGAAUAUUGAAGCACUUUUCCAAUCACCAUUGAGUACAGCUUGGUAUAGUUCCAAAAAAAAGGUUAAAUCUUUUUUAAAUAAUUUUGCAGUCACAAAACCAAAAGAUGUAUAGGUCAGCAUAGAUUUCCCUGAUAUGUAUCUUUAUUUCUUCAACAUUCACAACCUCCUAAUACUAAAAUUAUCUUUUAAAAAAAUAAAUCAUUUAAGUUAUGUUUCCUUCUCAAAAAAUUUGAGAAAAAAUACAAAAAAAAAAAUAAACAAAAAAAAUAGAAAGAAGGAAAAAGUGAAAAAUAAAAAUAAAAAAUAGACUUAAAAUCAAUAAAUUAAUUAUUUUUAUAUGUUAUUUUAAACUCAUUUUCCUUGAUAUCUCUUCUUUCCUAAGUAUUUUCUUGGAACCAAACAUAAAAGUUUUAUCUAAAUUUACCUCUAAUCAAAAUCUUCAUAUCUUUCAAUAAUAGUUUGAACCUUUAAUAAACUGCACCAAUUAAAAUUUAAUUUAAUUUAGUUUCUUUUUUUUGCUUUUUUUUAAUAGUGGGUUUUAAAACACUUCAACUUACAUAAUAAAUAUGCCCAAAAGUUGCAGGAGGACCUCAAACGGAAAUGGACAUGAACAUGGUUUUCAGCAUUUUACCGGAGUUGCUAGAGGAAACCACUUAAACAUAUUCAUCGGUAAGGUGAGCAAUUUCGAUGACCUUAUUUCUUUCCGAUGAUGAAGGGGAAGAGACUGAAGCAUAUUCAUCAGCAUUAUGCACCAUAUUGAUGCUACUACAGUUAAGAUUGUUUGGACUUGUAGGAAGAGUGUAAAAAAAAUUUUAUUCUAUUUUAUUCGAUUAGUCUUAUUUUUUGGGAAGAAUCCUGUUGGGAAUUAUAUUUAUUUUAUUUUAUUCUAUUAGUCUUAUAUUUAUGGGAAAAGUCCUAUUGGGAUUGUGCUAGUGGAGUCUCACUUCUUUCAUAAGUAGAAUCCCCUUCCACUUUGAGUCAUGUUCUGAUUACAAGUGUUAGUGGCCUAUAAAAGAAGGUCACCUCUCACUCUCUAAAUAUGAAUACCAAUUUUUUAGAGAGUCUUUUCAUACAUCUAUCUGGAUGAAUAUUUUCAAAACUCGAGUUGUACACAUCUCGCUUACUGAGUACACCCAAGGCGAGAUAUGGUUGUUGAAUCCUGGAGGUAGACCACUGGUACCUUAUAGCAUCGAGUUCGUCUUUGAAGAAGGUGGAUCUAUUUCAAGGACGGUGUUUGUCAUGCCUCAGUCGAUAAGUUUUUCUUCUUAUUAAUUCUAUUCUUUGUUUGUGUCUUUUGGGCUAGUCAUUUGUUUCCAUACCCUUAAAUCCAAUAAUCUUGAAAUAUAUCCAAACGGAAGCUUCUCUAGUUCACACCUAUCCUGACACCUCUAAAAUUGAUCCCUUCAAUGGGACAUUCUUUAAGAAAUGGCAGGAAAGGGUUUUAUCUACGAUUGAUGUAGAGAACUUGGGACACAUUUUGACUUACCCAAAACCAGAAUAUGGUUCUCAUCUGUUACCAACUUGGGAAACUGGAAAUAAACAAGUUAGUCAUGCUAUUCAGAGUACCCUUUCUAAUGAACUUUUUUAUAUUUAUCGUUAAUUUAAAGUUGCAAAAGAAAUUUGGGAUGCAAUGAAUAAAAAAUAUAUUUUGGAAGAUGCAGGAACUCAGAAAUAUGCCAUAAGGAAUUUUAGAAAUUUCCAAAUGACCGAGGAUAGAGAUGUAUCAUCUCAAAUCCAUGACUAUCACUUGUUGAUUAAUGACUUAGCUAUUGAAGACAUUAAAUUACCCGAACCUUUUGUGGCUGGUUAUUUAGUAGAGACUCUUCUAGAGUCUUGGAAAGACUAUAAAAAUAACAUGAAACAUAAAAUGAAACACAUGUCCCUAGAGGAUGUCAUAAUCCAUAUUAGGAUUGAGGAAGAAAACCGAAAUAGGGACAAUGUUAAGAAAGUUAAGGAAUUGUCUUCUAAGCCUAAUGUAGUAGAAGGAAAACCUAAACCCAAAAACAAUAGGUCCAGGAAACAAAACUCUAGGACCAAACCCUAUGCAUCAAACAAGGUCCAGAACUCAACUAUUAAAAAAUGGGGUAAUUGCUUUGUCUGUGGCAAGUCUGACACCAUGCAGUUCAAUGUCGCCACAGGAAGAGAACUAAGAAGUCCCAUUCAAAGGCAAAUCUGGCAGAGACAGGGGUGAUCAUAGUAGUAAUGUCCUCUAAGGUGAGCAUGGUCACCAAUAUGAAGGACCGGGUGGUAGACUCUAGGGCUACCAGGCACAUCUAUGGGAAUAGAAGUGCAUUUACUUCCUAUACCACUAUAAAGGAAGGAGACGAACAAGUGUUCAUGGGUGAUUCUAGAUCUACUACAAUGAUUGGCAAAGGGAAAGUUCUCGUUAAGCUAACCUCUGGAAAAGUGCUUGCCCUUAGUGAUGUUCUUCAUGUGCCAGAUAUCCGCUAGAACUUGGUGUCAGUAUCUCUGCUUGGGAAAGCAGGAGUGAGGAUCUUGUUUGACUUUGAUAAAAUAGUUUUAACCAAGAAUAAUGCAUUUAUGGGAAAGGGCUAUUGUAAUCAAGGUUUAUUUAUGUUGAAUGUUUCUAAUAUUAUCAAUAAUAAUGCAUCUUCUUCUUCUGCUUACAUAGUUGAUUCUUGUGAUAUUUGGCAUGGUAGACUAGGACAUGUGAACUUUUCAUAUAUGAAGAAAAUGGUUGAAUUGAGUUUAAUCCCUAAACUAUCAUUAGAAAACCAUGGAAAAUAUGAAUCUUGUGUAGAAUCUAGAACCACAAAGAAAUCUUGUAAAUCAGUUGAAAGAGAAUCAGAUCUACUAAGUUUAAUACAUAGUGACUUAGGAGACCUAAAAAAAUACAAUGACUAGAGGUGGUAAACGGUUCUACAUAACUUUCCUAGAUGACUACUCAAGGUAUAUAAGGGUAUAUCUUUUGAGAAACAAAGAUGAAGUAAGAGAUGCUUUCAUAAAGUACAAAAAUGAAGUGGAAAAUCAACUAAGCAAGAAAAUUAAAAGGCUUAGAACAUAUAGGGGAGGAGAGUAUGAGUCCAACCCCUUUAAUUCUUUUUGUGAAGAUCAUGUGAUCAUUCAUGAAACUACUCCUCCUUAUUCCCUUGAGUCUAAUGAAGUAGCAGAAAGGAAAAAUAGGACCUUAAAAGAAAUUAUGAAUGCAAUGUUGGUAAGUUCAGGAGCACCUUUGAACUUGUGGGGGGAAGUUAUCCUAUCCACAUGUCAUAUUCAAAAUAGAAUAUCUUACAAGAAAACUGGUAAAACUCCUUAUGAGUUGUGGAAGGGUUAUGCACCUAAUAUAGCAUACCUGAAAGUGUGGGGGUGUUUAGCUAAAUUUCUUCUCCCUGAACGUAAAAACGAAAACUAGGUCCUAAAACCUUUGAUGCAAUGUUCAUUGGCCAUGCUGAGAAUAGUACGAUAUAUAGGUUUCUUGUUACUAAGUUAGAUAACAGCCUUGUAGAUGUCAAUACUAUAAUAGAAACAAAGAAUGCAAGUUUCUUUGAAAACAUCUUUCCUAUGAAACUAAAUGGUGAACAACAAGUUUAGAAAACAAGUAGAGACAAGUCUAUUGAACCUUCUGAAUUUGAACUUAGAAUGAGUAAAAGAGAUAGGAAAUAAAAAAACCUUGGAGAUGGUUUCUACUCCUUCCUAAAAGAUGAGGACCCUAGAUCCUAUAAAGAAACUAUAACUUCUCUUGAUACACCAUUCUGAAAGGAGGCCAUUAACAGUGAAAUCGAAUCAAUCAUGUACAACCAUACAUGGGAGUUAGUAGAUUUACCUCCUUGUGAAAAGACUAUUUGUUGUAAGUGGAUCUUUAAAUGAAAGUUAAAACAAGAUGGGUCCAUAGAGAAGUAUAAAGUUUGUUAAUUUGCCAAAGGCUUUAAACAAAGGAAUGAUGUAGAUUACUUUGACACCUUUGCCCUAAUGACUAGAAUAGCGUCAAUUAGUGUAUUGAUCAAUCUAGCUUCCAUUCAUAAUUUGGUGAUACACCAAAUGGAUGUCAAAAAUGCAUUCUUGAAUGGGGAUCUAGAAGAGGAAAUUUAUAUGGAACAACCUGAGGGUUGUGUAGUUCCAGGGAAGGAGAAAAAGGUGUGUAAGUUGGUUAAAUCAUUAGAUGGAUUAAAACAAGUUCCCAAACAAUGGCACAACAAGUUUGAUCAUGUGUUAAUAACUAAUGGAUAUUCCAUUAAUGAUGCUGAUAAGUGUAUCUACAGCAAGUAUGAGAAUAACACAUGUGUAAUCAUCUGCCUUUAUGUUGAUGACAUGUUGAUCUUUGGAACUAGCCUAGAGGUUGUGCGUGAGACCAAGAAAUUCCUAGGUUCUAAGUUUGAUAUGAAAGACCUAGAAGAGGCAGAGGUGAUUCUAGGAAUUAAAAUAACUAAAACACCUAAUGGGCUUAAACUUUCUCAAGAGCACUAUGUUGAAAAGAUCCUAAGGAAGUUUGAACACUUUGAUUGUAAACCAGUGUCAACUCUUUAUGAUCCCAGCUCACAGCUGAAGAAAAAUAGAGAACAUAGUGUUGCCCAAAUAGAGUAUGCUCAGAUCAUAGGGAUCUUAAUGUACUUAAUGAAUUGUACCAGACCUGACAUUGCUUAUGCAGUAGGUAGAUUGAGUCGGUACACCCAAAGUCCUAAUAAGGACCAUUGGACUGUUGUUCGUAGAGUCCUUAAGUAUUUGAGAGGCACCAUUAACUAUGGUUUGUGCUUAGUGGAUUUCCAAUUGUCCUUAAAGGAUUUAGUGAUGCAAAUUGGAUCUUAGAUUCAAAUGAGAUGAAAUCCACUAGUGGAUAUGUUUUCAUCCUUGGUGGAAGUGCAGUUUCUUGGAAGUCUGCCAAGCAAACUUGCAUUACUCGGUCUACUAUGGAGGUUGAGUUUAUGGCCUUAGAAAAGGCAAGUUUUGAGGUUAAGUGGCUUAGAAACCUCUUAACAGAUAUCUCUUUUUGGACGAGACCGGACCUGUCUAUGUCUAUACAUUGUGAUAGUCAAGCUGCAAUCGCUAAGAGUAAAAUAUUUAAUGGGAAUAACAAACAUAUACGCCUAAGGCACAAUAUUAUGUGGUAACUGCUUGAAAUAGGGGUUAUAUCCCUAGAAUUUGUGAGGUCAGAGUUGAAUUUGGAUGAUCCUUUGACCAAACCACUAAAUAAAAAACUAGUGGAAGAAACAUCGAAGGGGAUGGGGCUUAUGCCUAUUACAGAAGUCAAGAGUGGUGGUAACCCAACCUAUUAAAAUGGAAAUUCCAUGAAGUAGGUUCAUGUGGAUAAUAACAAAUCACUUGUUGACUUGAGGCACUUUAUUAACUCUAAUUGUAUGAGAGUCUAUCCCUAUGGUGUAGAUAGAGCGUAUUCAACAUUGAUUAAGGUUGAGUGUUUACUCUUAAUGAAUACCAUAUUCCUUAUGGAUGGUAUGUUUAAAUGCAUAACAUACUAGAUAGAUUCACCUAUAUGAGAGUGGAGGUGGGGUCGCUUCCUAUGAGAACUUAGGCAGGUUCUCUAGAGCUCUCAUGAAUAUCCAGGUAGGGUGCAUGACCUAUUUGUGCCAACCCGUUUGUACAGCUCGUAGUGUAGUUGAGAAAACCAAUGUGGAUAAAAGUCCCUUGAGUUACAUCGAGAAACAGUGGUUCAUAGAAAUUUAUUUUCACCGUGUUUUGUGAUUCAAUACUUAUUUGUCCUAAGAAUGGUUCAUAGCCUUUGGGCAAUAGUACUAAUGGAUUGGAUUCUUUUUUCCUCCAAAAAAAGAAAAAAAAAAUCACAUUUACACUAUGUGGGGGAUUGUAUGAAGUGUGUAAAUAAUUUUUUUUUUGAUUUUAUUCUAUUAGUCUUAUAUUUUUGGGAAGAAUCCUAUUGGGAAUUAUUUUUAUUUUAUUAGUCUUAUAUUUUUAGGAAGGGUCCUAUUGGGAUUGUGCUAGUGGAGUCCCAUACCUUUUAUAAAUAGAAUCCCCUUUCACUUUGAGUCAUGUUAUAAUUACAAGUAGAGUCCCAUUGGGACUGUGUUAGUGGCCUAUAAAAGAAGGUCACCCCUCACUCUCUAAAUAUGAAUACCAAUGUUUCAGAGAUUUUUUCAAAGAAUUUUUCAAAGUCUUUUCAUACAUCUAUCUGGAUGAAUUUUUUCAAAACCUGAGUUGUACACAUCUCGCUUAUAGAGUACACCAAAGGUGAGAUUUGGCUGUUGAAUCCUGGAGGUAGACCACUAAUACCCUACUGCACCGAGUUCGUCUUCGAGGAGGUUGGAUCUAUUUCAAGGACAGUGUUUGUCACACCUUAGCCGAUAAGUUUUUCUUCUCAUUAAUUAUGUUCUUUGUUUGUGUCUUUUGGGCUAGUCAUUUGUUUCCAUAUCCUUAAAUCCAACAGGACUGUCAUCGAUUAUGAGAGUGGUAAUGAAGAGGAAGCCAUUACAUCAAAUUCCUCCUCAUGCUCAGCAAUGUCGAUUUUACUGUUGUUAGGACUAUUUGCGCUGUUGUCAUCUUUAGGAUGUGGUGAAGAAGAAGAAGCCAUUAUAUCAAAUUCCUUAUCAUGUUGAUAGCCAUUCCCAUGUUUAGUGAAGUUAUUAUAAUGUGUAACAGAAAACCUAAACAAAAUCUGAAGUUGACAGAGGUCAACAUUAACUAACUUACCUCGCAGAUGGAUUUGUUAUCCACGAUGGAAGAAAUAUUUAACUAUACCAAGGCAAAGAAGAUACUCUUAUCCAAAGAUAAACAACAACAACCCAUUUUUCCCACUAUCCUCAAAAGAUACAUAAAAUCGACCAAGGACCAUUGAAGCAUAAGAGGUGAAAUGGUGAAGUCUUCCAAGUCAACUUUGUUUAUUAAUUAGUUGAGUAUUUUCUAAGAAGUAGAUAGUGUUGAAACGUUGACCGGUGGAUGACAAUUGAAAAUAAUAAGCAUAUAUGAUUUAUCCAUUUUUUAAUGGUAGGAUUUCCCUCAAGCUAUUGUCAAAUAUAGAUAUAACCCCCUUGGUGCCCUGUUUGCAUCACAUCAUUAGUUUUGAUUUUUCUUUUUUUAUAGAAAUUAUGCCUAAUUGACAAAACUCUUAAUUAUAUAUUUAUAUAUAUAUAUAUAUGAAAAUUUCACCGAAAUAUCGCAUUUUAGUUGUUGUAGAAAUGAAAUAGGGUUGCAAAAUAUCGGAGGGGUGAAAUUAAAAAAAAAAAAUCAGCAUGUUUUGUCGAUAUUUUGGAUUUUUACCUAUUUAUCAACAAUUUUGCCGAUUUUUCAAUUUGGUCAAUGCGCAGGUGGUCUGGUCAAUGCGUAGUGAAAUGGUCAAACCCUUAAAAAUCUUAAAAUGUGACUUGUUGUAGGCACUAGGACUCUAAUCCAAACCCAAAACAAACAAACAUAGCCUUGGUCGACCAGUAGGCUAACUUGCCUAUUUAUUAAAGUAAAGGCACCAUAUAAAUAUAUCAUAAAACCGUCAUAAAAAAGAUAUUAAAAGAAUAUUUUAAUAAACAAAUUAUUUCUAAUUAUUUUAUUUUAAAUUUCAUUUAAUUGAUCACUAAAAAUAUAAAAAAUGUAGCUAUAAUUUUCUUAACAGAUUUUUUUUAUAUCAUUUAUAUAUUAAUUAAAUAUAAAAAUAUGAAUAUUAAAAAAAUUAUGCAUAUAUGAUCAUUUAUUUUAUAUCAUCUAAUACAAUUGAAAUUAAAUGGAUUAUAAUUUUAAAAUUAGAUAUACUAUAAUCAAAUAUUACAACAUUAUUGUUGAAUAAUAUUUAAUAUAAUUUAAUAAUAAAUAUAUAUUUAUAAAAUUCAUAUUUUUUUAUCAACCAUAUGAAAUUAUUAUCAAAUAUGAUUAACUAUAUCAUAUACAUAUACCAUUUUCUUUUUAUAAAAUAACUUUAAAAUAUCAAUUAUUGCUUAUUAUAUCGUUUUUAUAGUUUUCUUAUCAAUUUUGGGCUUACUGAUAUUUUGUGUCAAAAUAUCUAUCGAUAUAUCUAAUAUAUCCAUAAAAUCAAAGUACCGAUCUAUCUAUGAUUAUCGAUAUUUUUAUCUUUAUAUAUAUGCCUUUUAAGUAUGGUAAUAGCUAGAAAAAUAAAGUACGAUGUCAAAAUUACUAAGAAGGUUACUUGACCAAUUGACAAGGUAAAAUGUCAAGAAUACUUAAAUAUGAGUAAUCAUGGUAAAAAUACAAUAAACUUACUGGAAAUAAAUUCUUUUCAUUCAAUGUAUAACAACAUUUGUGAUUGAGGAAUAGGGUUACUAGAAGUUAGGAGUUGCAGGAUGACCUCAAGUGACCCAUAUAAGGCAUUUUUACUCAUUACACAUGGUUUAUAUAUAUAAGACCUACAAUUAGGUCUAUAGAAGAUGAAUUGAAAAGAUAAUUUAGACAUUUCAUCAUGUUUUGUCUUCGUACAUAGAAAUUUUCAGACUUACUCAACCUUUGCGCAAUUACAUUUAGGUUUUAUUCCUUAAACAAUAUAUUUUUUUAAAUUAAACUAGAAAAAUUGGAUGAAAAUGAAAUUCAUGCUUUUGGACAUAAACAACAUGCAAUUGUAUGCAUUAAUAGAAAUUUUGCAUUUAACAAUCUUUGUAGUAGUUACUUUUUUAGGCGUUAUGAACUCUUAAACAUAAUUUUCCUUUUCUUUUUCUUAUUAAAACUAGAAGUCUUAGAUAAAAAUAUGGCUUCUUGCUUAUGAGAUUCUCUUCAAUCUCUAAGAGAUAUUUGGUGAUAUGGGUAGAUCAACUAGUCAAGUUGCUCUUAAAACUAUUAUGAAUACCAAGAUGACAGAAGGAACUCUCAUUAGAAAUUAUAUGACUCAUAUAACUAGACUCUUUAACAAGAUGGGGAUUCUUAGAGCUAAAAUCAAUGGUGAGACCAAGGUCAAUAUGAUCUUAGAGACCUUAUUGGAUUCCUUCAAACAGUUAAAGCUCAACUAUUCCAUGGAUAAGAUGUUGAUGAACUAGCCAGAGUUGAUGAGGGAACUCUAAAUGGUUGAGGGGAUUUUCAAAGAACAAAGGGUUGUUCAUAUGGUAGUUAGAGGUUCUUUAGGUUUUUCUAACAAUAAAAAGAAGAAAUAGAAAAACACUAAAUAGGGAAUGUCCAAGGUUAGGAAAGGAAAUAACAAAGGAAAGGGCAAGUGCUUCCUUUGUGGCAAAAAGGUCAUUAGAGAAAAAAUCACUUCACUACCUAAACAAAAAAAAAAAAAGGAACAUUUCAUUCACUUUUAGUUGAAUCUUGCUUAGUGGUGGAUUCUACCAUUUCAUGGUAGAUAGAUUUUAGGGCUACUGACCAUAUUUGUAAUUAACUAUUCCAUGAAUAAGAUAUUGAUGAACUAGCCAUAGUUGAAGAGGGAACUCUAAAUGGUUGAGGGGAUUUUCAAAGAACAAAGGGUUGUUCAUAUGGCAGUUAGAGGUUCUUCAAGUUUUUCUAAUGAUAAAAAGAAGAAGAAUAAGAACAAUUUCAAAAAAACAUUGAAUAGGGAAAGUCCAAGGUUAGGAAAGGAAAGGGAAAGUGCUUCCUUUAUGGCAAAAAGGGUCAUUUGAAAAAAAUAUGACUUAACUUCCUAAAGAAAAAAAAUUACAUUUCGUUCACUUUUAGUUGAAUCUUGCUCAAUAGUGGAAUCCACCAAUUCACGAUAGAUAGAUUUUGGGGCCAUUGACCAUAUUUGUAAUUCUUUACAAGGAUUCUAACUAAGGAGAACAUUGAAUGAAAGCAACAUAUACUUGAUUCUAGCUUCUUAUGCAAGAAUAGUAGUGUAGGCGCUAAGAGAUGUUACCCUAGUAUUAGGCAUAAAUUUUAAAAGGUGUGAUUUAGGCGUGCCUAGGUGCAAGGCAGCACAACGCGAAGCUCUAGCACCUUGCCUUACUCUAAGCACAACUCACUAAGGAAGGCACUACUUAAGGGUGUAAGACCCUCGCCUUCAGUUAGGUGUAAAGCUCUGGAGACGUGUGCUUCUUCCAUUUUUUUUCUUCUAGAGAGGUGUGUCUUCCAUUCUUUUCAUCCAUUCUUCUUCUUAUUCUUUUCUUUAUCACGAUCUAUUAGGGCCUUUUUUUUUUUUUUUUAUUUCACCUCAAAACACAACAUUUUUAGUUGAACAAUUUUAUUUAUUUUUUAAAUAUCUAAGCUAUAAUCGGAUUGUGACAAAGAAAAGAAGAAGAAGAACUGAAGAAAAAGAGAUGAGAAAAAAUAUAUAUAUGUAUUGCUCCAAGUUUUAUGAGCUUUCUCAAUUAGAUUUUUUUCUUUUUCUUUUUGGAUAAUAUUUGAUGAAAUAUGUGCUUAGGACAAAUAAAUGGUUAUUAAUUUUAAUUAUAUUAUAUGUGAAUUAUGGUGCACCUCACUUCACUACAAUUUGCACCUUAGGUUGCACCUUACACCUAGGCUCCAUGAGGACAUUAUGCCUUAGAUGUGUCUUGCACCUUUUAGAACUAUGGUAUUAGAUAAUAAAGGUCAUCUUAAACUUAAGCAUUAUAUUUACUUACUUGAGUCUAGAAAGAAUCUUAUUUUUAGUUUUUGACUAAGUAAACACAAUUACUUGGUUUAUUUUAAUGAAAAGGUUUUUAUUAGAAAAAAAAAUUCAUUUAUUUGUUCAGGCCCAUUUGGAUGACGAUCUAUAUCAUAUCACUUCAUCUCAUUUAUGAUUGUGUUGAGAAAAUCAAAUCUCAUUAAAGAGGAAAGUACCUAGCAUUAAUCAAACCUUGUUAUGACAUCUUAACCUAGGUCAUAUUAAUCUAAAUAAGAUCCAAAGAUUAGCUAAGUUUGGAACAUUGCACUUUUUUGUUCUAGAGGAUCUUCUAGUAUAUGAAUCCUGUAUAGAAUGUAAAAUGAUUGACAAACCCUUUAUAACUAAAAGACUUAGAGACAAAGAUUAUUUGGAAGUAAUGCAUGCUAAUGUGUAUAGACCUUUUAAUGUCCAUGUACAUGGAGGACAUGAAUAUUUCAUUACCUUUAUUGAUGAUUACUCUAGGUAUGGUUAUUUUUAUCUUAUGCAUAUGAAAUUUGAUGUCUUGGAUAAGUUCAAGAAGUUCAAGGUGGAAUUGAAAAAGUAUUUGUUGGGAACUUCAAAUUACUCCAUUCCCUGGCCUCGAACCACAUAGGGUGCAUGCAUCUAUCCUAGGCUUUUCUCAAUCUAAUGUAGUGGGAAUAUAUAGUAUCAAGAACUAUAUUAAGAUCUAGAUCUAGAGGUUAAAGUAUCACACCUACAAUCUGGAUGUUCCAAGAUCAAUGCAUGUUUGAUGCAAAUUCUAAAACUGCGGUAGUCAUCGUAGAAUUUGUCUACCCAAGAGUCUUCUAUUUGAUCUCUCCCUCCAUGGGUCUAAGCAUAAGAGAAGGGUAGGCUUCUCUCUCUCCCAUGAGGGUAGCUAGGGUUUCUCUUUGGAGGCUUUCUCUCUAGAGGCUUUCUACUUCAAAAUGAUAGGCAAAAGUUUGAAACCCUAAACCUUAAAAGGGUAUUUAUUGGGCGCCUUGUGGGUUUCAAUUACUUGAUCUCAAAUUAGGCUUAAGUCACUAAUCUAGCCUACCUAGGUCCUACUUAAUUAAUUAGGCCUAUUAGUUGUCUCUUCAUUCCAUCGAUUACUGGUAUUGUGUGUGAUACCAGACACACCGACAACCAAUUAGUUGCAUUUUGCAUAAUUUCCUUACAAACAAUCCUAGGAGUGAUAUUGCCCAUGAUAAGAUCGAACUACACAUUUUUAUUAUGGUGGCAUUACUACACGGAAUAAACCAAAAGGGAGUUUGGUUCCUUAGUGAAAUUUUUUAGUACAUUAUUUCCCUACCACAACAACGACAAUCAAUUCUACCCACCAGAAUUAUUUUCCACAGUUAACCGCCAAAUUCAAUUUUGUCACCAUUUGGCAUAUGAUUAAAAGGUUGUAUGUUUUGGUAGAGUGGGGUCACAUCAUAUUUCAAAAUAAGUCUAAAAGUGUGUUUGACAAUAAUUUUAGGAAGUGUUUUUAAUCUUUCUAAUAUUUAAAAUUUUUUAUCUUUCAAGUAUUAAAAAUAUUAGAAACACUUCUUAUAAUCAUUGUCAAACGCACUUUAAGUAUAGGAUACACAGUUUUUUCCCCAUUAUAGACAAAAUAAAUAAAUAAAUCUAAAUGUCACUCCAUCUCAUUUAACUUAGAUAGUCAAAGUAUGUCUGUGUGUUUUUAUAAAUUUUUUGUGGCCAUUUUUAGCAAGGAUAUAUUCAUGAAAAAAAUUACUGAAUAAAAAAAGUAAUUGAUUUAUGAUUCAAUAUUCAAAUCCAUAGUUGAACUGUAAUGUGACAAAUAUAUAAUUUAUAUAUAUAUAUAUAUAUAAAUUAAAAAAAUAUAUAAAAAUUAAAUUAUGUACAAAUAAUUAAAUAUUUUCCUUAAUAUUAGAAUAGUAUAUCAUAAUCAUCAUAAAAUAUAAAUGUGCUAAUAUUUUUAUUUUAUUAAAUAGUAAUAUUAUAGUAUUUAAUUAUAAAAAUAUUAUAUAUAAAUAUUUAAUACAUUUAUUAUUAAUAACUAACAAUGUACUACUACAUUCAAAUCAUUUGCCUAGAGGCCAUUUAUUCCUGAUGUGAAUCUUUUUUUAGCAGAAAAAUGUGUGAUAUUUGAAGAUGAAAAAGUCGAGAAAAAGUGUGACAUACUAUGUGGGGCACUAAUAGACAACCAUUGAUGUGAGCUGAUAUGCUGUAUCUACACUUUUAUCUUCAAAUAUCACACAUUUUUUGUUUUCAAUGCUAGAGAUUAGAAUUACAAGGUUUUAAUCAUGUAAAUAUUGUUUAUUUUAAGUCCAAAGGACAUGUUCAUAAAAUUUAAAAAACUCAUAUAUAUAAGAUAUCAAUAACUUUUUCCUUUUGUUGGAUGUGGGAUAUUACAAUCAUCUUCUAAGAUGUGUUUCCAUAGGAUUGUAGUACUAAACAAAGAGACAUCCCUCACGAUAUCAAAGAAACUUAGUUAUGAAUUGAUUCUAGUAUCAUUUAUAAUGAUCAAGGAAAAAAGUUUCUUAAAUUAUAUAUUAAUGAACUCCUCUCAACCUUGUAAACAUAUUUUAAGGUUAUUAGAAUCCCUUAAGCCUAAAGUGGAUAUUAUUAAUUUACAUAAUUAAUUAAGAGUGAGUUGCUAUUAGAAAUUGUUUACACAAUUCCAUACUCUAUGCAUUGUUGACGAUUUAUACGUAUUUUUAUGGCAUGUCCAACUUAUUGGUAUUAAUUACCAACGGUCCCGCAUGUUUGAAAAAUAUUGAUAUGAUAGAACCAUCUUUAAAUUAUUAAAUUAUUAGUCAUAAAUAUAUAUUAAUGUACCACCAACCACCUGUGUAGCUUGCUGUGCUAAAUUAUUCUCAUAUCCUUUUCAACAUCAAAUAAGUGGAUAUAUGAGCACCGACAUGCUAUGUGAUUCUAAGCUAUUCCCAUUUCUUUUUCAAUGCAGAAUCUUAUUUAAUGUAAGCUUGAAUUUUAUCUCUUCCACAUGCUAAAUUAUUUAAUGCAAAAUAAGUGGAUAAAAUAUUCAUUUUUUUAAAUUAGCCGAUGAAGGAUCUCAAACCAAUCAAAGUGGAAAUUUUAGAGUCAAUUAUAGUGAAGGACUACAACUGAAAUACUAUUUUGUUUCAAUGCUACUUAAAAAUUGUGUUGUUUUUUUGGCUUAGCAAAAUUGUAGUUUAAAAUAUAUGGAGAAACAAACUUUUAAUUAACAUUUUAUAUUAGAUAUGAUAACGUUUAAUACAAAUGGACAAGAGAAAAUCAACAUCUAUGCAAUUGAUACAACUUUAUUGGUAUGAUUGAAGAUUAAGAGUAUGCCUACUGGUGUAAUUUAAAAAUUGUUUUUUAUUUUUAAAAUAGGAAAUUGUCUUUAAAAAUUCAUAACAUUAUUUAACCAUUGUUUCUUAUUUCCACUCUUCAAGAACAAAGGAAAAUGGAAAAUAAAUUUUAAAAAACCAGUAAAAAUUCUUUUCAUCAAUUUUUAAAAAGGAAAACAUAAAGAAAAACCAUAAAUAGAAAAUAAAAUUAAAUCUAAUAUCUUUCUUUUUCGAUCCUCAUUACCCAAUAUCAAUACCAAAAAUUUUCAAAAUGAUAUUUCUUUGAAUUUCAUGUGUUUUUCUAAAUUUCCUUCAACUUCUCUAAAAUUUUUCAUCAAGUAAAUGAAUUCAAAAUCAUAUUGUAAUUUAUUUAUAUUGAAAAAUUAUUUCAAACUUAAAAACCAAAUUAGUACUAUAAAGUUAUAAAACUCAAUAACAUUAAAAAAUUAUAGACCAAAAUUCAUUUGAAUGACUCGGCUAGUUUAUUUUUUUUGUAUAUAAUCAUAUUUUUGUAAAUUUUUAUACAAGCCAAGUCUAGCACUUUUUAAAAAUAAUUUUAAACUCAAAUUGUGACUCAAUUAAAUUUAUGGAUAAAAAAUAGUUUACUUUAUUAUUUCUUUUCUACUCAUAAUUACAUUUUUAUAGACUUUCUCACCAAAGAAAUGAACUUCAAAUCAUGAGACAAUUUGUAUUAAGUUUAUUAAUAAGUUUAAUAAUUUGUAAAAAUAAUUUUAAAAUAAAAAAAUUGAUGAAAUUAAUUGUAGAUUAAAUCAAAACAUUACAUAAUAUUCCUUUAUGCAUGUACUGUGUAAAACUUCACUCAUUUAUAUAUUAAAAUUUCAAAUUUUAUUUUGUAUAAUUUCAUUUGAAAUAAAAUAUUAUUAAUAACUAGUUUUAAAUUAUUAUUAUUUAUUUUUUACAAAAAAAUCAAUUAUGCUUUCAUAAAGAUGUUAAUAUCCAGAUUUUUAUAGUAUACACAAAAAUAGUAUAUUCUUUUAUAAUAAAAAAAUUAAUUUAUAGCUUUAUUAUAAUAUUACUAUUUGUAUUUUACCAAAACAAUCAUUUUAAAAAAAACUAUUUGCAAUUAAAAAAAUAUUUUCAUUUUUAGUAAAACAUGAAUUAAAUUUAAUUGAUAUUAUAUAAAUUCAAUUUAUAAUAUUUUUAUGAAAUCAAAAUGGAAAAUUAUUUUUAAAGUAAUUUAUUCAAACAAGGUUUUUAAUUUUUUUUUUUUUGAAACAAUUUGUCAAAGAUCCUUAUUUUUGUAAAAUAUUUAAAAACCGUUUUUUGUUACUUGUUUUAAAAAUAAUUUUUGAAAACAAGCAUAACAAAAUGACUGAAGGACCCCAAUCUUCUCAAUUCUCUUAGUUAAAAGAAUAAAUGGGCAAAAGAAAAAAAAAGGGUUGAAAUAAAUGAUAAACUUCUGCUUUGAUUCAAACUCUAAAUUUUACUCUAAUUCAAACUAAUAAUAAAUAUAUAAAUACUAAUAAUUAAAUUAAAGGCAAACAGAUAAAUUAUUUAUUUUCUCUAUUAGAAGUAUCUCCAAUCAAUCAAAGUAAAAGUUUUAGAGUCAAGGUGCACCAAAGUGAAGGACCCUGCCAAAAAGAAGAUUGUAUGGAUUUUUGUAGUUUAUUCAACAUGUUAACACCAAUGGUCCAAUAUGUUUUGAAAAACAUUGAUGUGCACAUUCACCCAAAAAUUAAGAGAUCAUAAUAUGCCUACUUUUUAUUUUUAUUUUAUAAUACGAGGAACAAGUGCCCACUCACCCAAAAAAAACAUGUUUCACAUGCACGAACCGGAUAAUUCUACACUACUGGAAUAUUGAUAUCAUAAUAUGCCUUCUUUUAAAUUUUAUCUAGUAAAGUCGUCAAACCCAUGCUUGGGCUAAUAUCUAGGAAUGCAGCCUUUAUUCAUAAUUUAAAACAUCCAGAUCAACACAACCAAUCAAAUCUAUUGAUAUGUGGAAGAUAAUCUUCUGAAUUCUCUUAGUUCAAAGAGUAAAUUAGAGGAUGAAAGAUCUCCAACUAAUCAAAGUGGAAAUUAUAGAGUGAAGUGGAUCUAUGAAGGACCACAUUUGAAACAUAAAAGGUUUGUCUUUCAGCAUUUUUUCAUCCACUGCUUUAGGAAAAAGGUUGCCAGCACAACCACUAAAAAGAACUUUGUGCGAAUUUUUGUGGCUUGUCCAAUAUCCAUAUCAUAUAUCAUAUGCUAUAUAUAAAAUUACUUUUGAUAAAGUAUGAGAUACCUAUAUAAAUAGAUACCAUAUAAAAUAUUUGUAUAAAUAUCUAUAUGAUAUUUAUAUAGAUAUUUUGGGGACAAAAAAUGUGAUUAUUUUGGGGACUCGGCUUUUUCUAUGUUCCUUUUUCUUUAUAAUUUAUGUAUGUUAUGGUGACUUUUUUUUUCUUUUUUUUCUUUUUUUUUCCUUUCCAUCCAUGGAGCCUAAUUCACGUUAAAAGGUGCUGAAAUAAUACAACCAAACAAUCAUACACAAAAGAAAUGGUUAAGAGAAUGGAUUAAAUUAACAAAAUAGAAACUCCUAAUAACAAAAUAUAUAAAUAUUUUUAAGUUGUGAUGCUCAAACGUAAAUAUUAAAAUUGAUCACUCAAAUUUAAAAUUAUUUUAAUUUUCUUUUAAAAAUUAAAAAAAAAAUUAUAAUUGAAACUUCUCAAGAUUAAAGCUUAUUUUUUGAUAAAAUAAAAUAAAAUAAAAUAAUAAUAAUGUAACCAAUGGGUGGAUCUAUUUAUGUCUUUGCUACCGCAUCACUAGCAACCAAACAUAGUGGGAAAAAAAAAAUGAUGCACUGUAAAUGAUGAAACCGAAAAUCUAGAGGGCUAAUGUAGACCCUCCAUUCUAUCCCCUUAACGCAUGCCCUAUUAGGUGUUCUUUCAAUACUUCACAGUGGUUCCCUGGCGACCCUUUGCGGCUCAUAUAGCCAACCUUUUUUAGCCACCUUGGAGAUUUUGGUUGAGCAAUUUAUUUGGCCCCUCAUUAUGACUCUUAGCAUAAUCAAGUUAGAUCUAGGAUUUUUUAUUUUUUCUUUUCUUUUUAGGAUAACUCCUUUAAGUGAACCUUUAGGAUAGAAUACAUAAGCACCCUUUUUCGAUCACCUUGGCCCAUUUAGACAUUUUUGCCCCAUUUAGGAUCACCCAGGCCCAAUUAGGCACAUUCAACCCAUUUAGGAUCACCAGAACCCAUUUAGACACAUCCGACCCAUUUAGGAUCACCUUGGCCCAUUUAGACACAUUUGAUUCAUUUAGGAUCACUCUGGCCCAUUUAGGCACAUUCGACCCAUUUAGGUUACUUUGGCCCAUUUAGACACAUCCAAACCCAUUUAGGUCACUUAGGCCUAUUUAGGCACAUCUGACCCAUUUAGAAUUACCCUAACCUAUUUAGAUACAUCCAACCUAUUUAGGAUCACCUUAGCCCAUUUAGAGUCACCUAGGCUCAUUUAGGCACAUUCGACACAUUUAGGUCACCUUGACCCAUUUAGACACACCCAGACCCAUUUAAGUCACCCUGACUCAUUUAGACACACCUAUAAUCAUUUCAAUCACAUAGGCCCGUUUAGGCACAUUAAGGCCUAUUUGACCCAUUUAGGCACAUUUGACUCAUUUACACACAUCUAGGCCCAUUUAGGUCACUUAAGCUUGUUAAGGCACAUUUAGUCCAUCUAGACACUUUUGGCCCAUUUAGGAUCACCUAGGCCCAUUUAGACACAUCCGGCCCAAUUAGGAUCACCCUAGCCCAUUUAGACACAUUUGACCCAUUAUAGUACAUUUGGCCCAUUUAUGAUCACUCUAGCACAUUAGGCCCAUUAAGUGUCACUUAGGCCCAUCUAGGCACACCCUAGGUCCAUUUAGGAACAUAUUGUCCCACUUAUGUCACCCGUUGACUUUCUUUUUUUUUUUUUGCAUGGUUUGCAUUGCAUGGCUAAAACUUCUUUGUAUGGCUUGCAUGACACCUUUUUUUUGUUAUUAUUAAUUACUUAUUUAUUUUUAUUUAUUAUCUUGUUAUUUAUUUAUUUAUUAUUUACUUAUUUAUCUAUUAUUAUUUCAUCAUUUUCUAUUUUUUCUAAUUAUUAUUCAUUUGUUCAAUCUAUUUUUAUUUCUGUGUUUUUGUAGGGAACUUUACCAAAGAGAGCCAACGGAGAUGGAAAGCAAGAAUCACCAAAAUGAAAAAGGAAGAUAAAAGUAAGAGAGAGUAAAACUUACCAAGAUGAGAGGGGAUGGUGAGCUGCAUUAUGAAAGUAUGGAGAACAUGUUUUGGGAAGUUUAUCAAAGAGAGAGUCAACAGAGAUGGAAAGCAAGAAUCACCAAAAUGAAAAAGGAAGAUGAAGCAAGAGAGAGCAAAAAUUGCCAAGAGAAUAGGGGAUUGAGGGUUGCAUUAUGAAAGUAUGGAGAACACGUUUUGGUAAGUGAGAAAUUCAGCACGUGGGAAAGGUUUUGGAGUAAGGAAAGGAGGGACUUGGUUAAGUUGGAAUUUGGAGAUUCAAUAUGUUUUUUAGGAGAAAGAGGGGAUAACAUUUUAAGACAAAAAGAAAUUCAAUGUGGUAGGAAGGAAUGUUUAGCAUAUUAAGGAAAAACAUGAGGGGAUUUGAUAAACCACGAAGAUCUCAGCGUGUUUCUCGACCAAAUCAGAAAUAUUUGAACUGAGUCUUGAGCUGCAAAGCUUGGAGAAGAAGCUUGUUUGUGUUAAGAGUCUUUGUUUCAGUUGGAGUCCUAUUAUUCUGCAAGAAGUCCUAUUCUUCUGCUAGUUUGUUAUUUUUGCUUCCAUGAUUUAGUUUCUGUUUGUGCACAAUAGUUGUGGCCGUAAGUUUAGGAAGAGUGGUUAGAAAAUAUAUGUAUUUAAACUCUUUCAAUGAAUAAAAAGAAUAUCAGAAAAUUGUUCCAAACAAUGUGGAAUGUUCUCACCUGAAGAGUACACUUUAUCUUUAUUUCAGGACUUUUGGCUGGGACUUAACAUUGGUAUUAGAGCUCGGUUACAAUGGCAACCAACAAAGAGAGGAUUGAAGCCUUGGAGGCUGGACUCGGUGGUGUUCAAGAUGGAAUGCAAUGACUUGAGGACACUGUCAACAGGCUGUCUGAAAUUUUGCUUUCAACUAGGGAAAGCUCCAACAAUCACAACAAUGGGCGAGAAGGAAUUGUCCGGCCACAUCGAGAAGAGAACGACGACGGCAGACAAAUUUUUUUUUUUCCAAAAUGGCAAAAACGAACAUGUUUGAGAAGUUUAAGAUGAUGCUUGGUGUGAUUGACUUUACAAUUCAGAUUAAGGGAGACUGUUGAAAUCAUAAUCCAACUUAAAUUCAAAUUAGAAUAAGUUUAGGAAUUGGAUAAAUAUUAGGAAUUGUUAUUUAUUUAAGCUUCAUAUGUUAAUUAGGACUUUUAGUCUAAUAGGAAUUAAAGUCCUAUUACAAGUAUGGUUAGCUUAUUAUAAAUAGGCUUAUUAUUAUGUUAAAAAGCAUAAUGCAAUAAAUUUAUUUUUUUAGUAAAAUAUUAUUAAUACUGAAAUGUGUGGGUUCCAACAUAAGUAUGAGAACUUAAACAAAACUAAUCAAGCCUAAAAUAGAACAAAUAGUAAAUUUAACUAAAAAAACUAGAACCCAAACUUGUUUGAUAAAAGGGAAAAGCACUUACAAGGCAAGAUAGGCAUUGGGCACCUAAAAUGUGAAAUGCACUCUUACCACCAGGCACUGAUGGACACUCAAAGAAUAAAUAGUAGAAUUGGAUUCGAACCCAAACCUCCUUUAAAAAAAAAGAGAAUGUAAAGAUGAUUAUGAAAAAUUAGGUGUGGAUUUUUUUUUUCCUAAAUUUUUUUUAUAUAUAGAAAAUAGCUUAUUUUUAGAUUUCAGAUAGUUUGUUUUUGUACUUUUUGUUAAUAUAUAACUUAUUUCUUAAAUUUUUUAUUAAAAAGAAAAAAAUCAAAAUAUUUUACUUUUUCUGAUUACUAAAAUUAAUUUAUGGGCUUUAACACUAUUAAACACUUUUUAGUUUUAAGUUCCGAAUAAAAUUAAGUCAAAAAAAGUAACACCACCUUAGAAUUAAAUUUGGUUGAAAAAAUAAAACUCUUAUAUUUUAACUCCUACCCAUAAGUGACUUUGUGUCGGCAUACAAAGAAGAAAUGUGGGCCUAAUGGGGGAUUUUUGAUAUUUUCCUUUUUUUUUUUUUUUUGUAAUACAAUAUUUGUAAAAAAAAAAUGUAGUUAUAUAAAUAAUUUUAAACAAUGUUGUUCCCUAAGGAGACCUCCUUCGGUACAAAAAAUGCAUGUGGUAUUCUUCCAAUUAUUAAAUUGUAUCUAGCGAAAAGGUCCAACGCAUAUUUGAAAAAAGGAGAAUUCCCAUUUAGAGUAGGCUACCAGUGAUAAUGACCUAAAAGGAUCAUCAUAUUUGCAAAUUCUUAUCAAGUCCUUUGAAAAAUUAAUCAUUUUAGAUACCAUUUUUAUUUUUUUUUGUCCUUUUCUUCUUUUUCUCAUUUAAUUUUACCUUUUUUUAUUGUUUUCCUUUUAUACUUUUGAUUCGACUCAUGGUAGCUUAGCUUUAAAGGCGUAUCAACAAAAUUUAUACCUUGAAUACUAUUACUAAAGUAGCCAAGCUACUAUAGCAUAGUGGUUCUAGGAUCGUUCACUGGGAAGGGUUUUCGCAAACACAAGUGAUAUUCAAAUUAGAAAUAGGUGAUUUUCUUAUGGAUGUUAGCUUUAAAAGAAGAUGUAAAUGUUUUAGAAAGAUUUAAACUAAUCUAAGCUAACAUUAAAGACUAAAAUGAAAGGGUGUAAAAACAAGUUUCUCAAAGAUAGGAUAGCUAUGCUCUGGCUCUUAUGCAAAUUGGAAAUCUCAGGAUAGGCUCCUCGCGUUGGGGUUGCAACUAUGGUGAUGCUUGCUUCCCGAACCGGUAUGGAUUUAGCAAAUCAAGUUUUAAUCCUUUAAAAUGGCAAAACAGAUGGUAGUGAAUUUCAUCAAUGGUUAUUCACCUUAGACUUCCUUUGAAUGGCUCGUAAGAGAUAACUAAUGGUCUAAAGCCAAAAGCUUACCAAAUAUUGGCAACUCAAAGUUAUUCCAGGUGAUAAACUCACCUUUCAAUGGCCAUUGAAAUUGGUUCUAACGGAUUAAUGCAAAACUUGGAAUUGAAAACCUCACCUUCCAAUAGCUCGUAGGAGAUAACUAAUGGAUAGAAAUCCAAAAGCUUAUCAAGUAUUGGCCGUUGGAAGUUGUCAAAAGGAAAUAAAAACCAAACUUUGCAUUAAUGAACCAUUAAUGAAAAACGACUACCUUACCUUCCGGGUGCGAGAAAUUUCCAUGGGAUUGCAUCCAAGUCAUCACAUAACAUCCAUACUUUGAGAAACUAAAAGUUUUAGCCAAUCAUCCUCUGAGGAAAAGCCCUCAGAGGCUGUUUGGCUACUAAGAAAAUAGAAAUGGGGAAGAACAGGAGAAAAGAGAAAAAACAGAGCAAGGCUCUGUAUAUUCUAUAUAUUGAUCGAUAUUUUUUACAAUGGAUGCAAGGGAAUAUAUAUAGAGAAGUUUUUCCAACCUUCCUAGCUAAGAAAUUACAUGAGUGGUGGAUUACAAGGAGAAGAAUGGAAAUUUAUACAAAAAUAUCCAAAAGAAAAGAUCUCGUGUGGAGUCGGCAGAAACAGGGGAAAAUUCGCACCAUGCAAGGGGGUGUGCGAAUUCGGAAGGUGUUGUGCGAAAAUUUCGCACACCCCUGGAGCAGUUGUCUUCCGAAGGCCAUAUCUUCCUCAUUUCAGCUCCAAAUCGUACACAGUUUGAAGCGUUGGAUUCUUGACUUCCUGAGCUUUGAAAUGGUAUAUAGCAUGUAGAAAAUGGACUUCGGGAAGUGCUCCAAAAGUUCCAAAGAAGACUGCAGCUGCUGUCCUCUGUUUUCCUCUUUGCUUCUUUUUGCUUCUCUUUGCUUCUCUUCUUUUGUUGGCUUGCUUUGAUGUAGCUAAAAGCUUGCUUUAACUUGUCCAAGUAGCUCCUCCAUCAUUUGGCAUGCUUGAAUUGAUUCAUAAGCUGAUAAAAACAUGUAAACUUGCCACAAAAUGGUUAAAACCAAUUACUAAGGACCUUAAUGAAUUAAUUGGGUUAAAUGAAUAUGAUUACUACUCAAAGGUGCUUAAAACCAUUAUAAUUAGGUCUACAAAAUAGCACUUUUUGGUAGUAAUCAACUUUUUUACACAUUAUUAUUAGGGAGAAUUAUCUUUUGGGGUUAGAUGGGCUUCCAAAUUAACAAAAGGUCCGUAUAACUCUUCAAAUUGAGUUGAAGGAUAUGAAAUAGUAACAGACAAAUAUACCCUUUAAGAACACAUAUAAAAUAUUUUAUAAAAUUAAGUUAAAUAAUUUUUUUUAAUAAUUUUUUUUUCAAAAAUGCUAAAUUAAAUAAAAAUAGUUUUCAAAAAUAUUAAAUUAAAUAAUUUUUUUUUCAAAAAUAUUAAAUUAAAUUAAAGUAUUUAAAAAAAAUAUUAAAUAAAUUUAUUUUUUAAAAAUAUUAAAUUAAAUAAAUUUAUUUUUACAAAAUAUUAAAUUAAAUAAAUUUAUUUUUACAAAAUAUUAAAUUAAAUAAAAGUAUUUUAAAAAAUAUUAAAUUACAUAAAAGUAUUUUUUUUAAAUAUUAAAUUAAAUAAAAGUAUUUUUCAAAAAUAUUAAUUUUUUUUCUCAAAAUCAACAAAGGGCAUUUUUGGAAAUACUGAAGGAUGAUAUCCUUCAACUCAAUUUCCAUACUUUCAUUAGGUCUUGGACUCAAUUUGAAGAGUUAUAUGGACCUUUUAUUAAUUUGGAGGCCCAUCUACCCCCAAAACAUAAUUCUCCCUUAUUAUUAACUAUUAAUAUUAUUAUUUAUAAUAUUAAUAUUUUGAAUUAUUCAUGUUAUUUAUUAAAAUCAUUCUUAUUAAUAUUAUCUAUUUUUAUGAUUAUUAUUCAUAUUUUUAAAAUAAUAAUUAGAAGAAAAAAUAAAACAAAGAAAAGACAAAAUAGAAAAAAGAUAAAGUAGGGAUAUGUUUAACUUUAAAGUGAAACGUAUAAAGGUAUAUUUGAAUUUUUAUAUUUUGAGAUAUUUUGAAGAACUAUCAAAGUUGAUGACCCUUUAGGAUCAUUAUCAUUCAUAGCCCACCCUAUAUGAUAAUUCUCCCUUUCAAAAAUUGUAAAUGGAAUAACGGGCCAAACAAUAGUAUUAUGGUAUCGAAAACAACUUUUUCGUGUCAUACCUCCAAUGACCACAAGUGAGAUUGUGAUCAAUCAAGACAAUUACAAUAAAAUUUAACAACCGAUUACUUUCAAUUUUUUGAUAAUAUUUAUUUUAUUGAUUAAGAAUUAUAAUUUAAUAAAAAAUGGGGUUGUUAUUCACAACAUCCCUUUUGCUAAACAUAACACUUUUUUGUCAUAUUUUUUUUCACAUAUACCCUUUUAAAUAAAGAACUCUCUCUAACCUUCUCUCAACAUAUUGAACCUAAAUUCUAGUUGGUUAAGGUUGCGAAUCACAUACGAAAUACAACGAAUGAUGAAAUUUAAUCAUCUGAUGAAAAUUUUCAGAUAAGAUUUAUAAUUUUCAUUUUUUAUAAAGAAAUAUAUAUAUUUAUCUAUAUAUAUAUAUAUAUAUAUAUAUUUAUCAAAAAAAAAAAAAAUUGGCAACCUGGGUGGGGCUCCGGUGUCCUAGGAGGCAGCAGCAACAACAACGAUUAUGGUUUGGAGUAGGUAUGGAAGUCGGCGACCAUCGACAACAGUGGUUGGGCUAAAUUUUUUGCUUAUAAUAAUUAUAAAAAUCGAAUUUUUAUUAUUAUUUAUAAUAGUUACUAAAUUACUUUUCGUUUAUAAUAGUUAGAAAAUUCUUCAUGACAUAAAUUUUUGCUUAUAAUAAUUAUAAAAUUCUAAUUCUUUUAUUUGUUUAUAAUAUUUACUAAAUUAUUAAUUUUUUGUAAGAAAACAUUAUAGUAGCCACAUAAAUUAUUAAUUUAAACAAGAUUUGUUUUUGCCAAUUUUCACCAAUUUUACUAAUUUCAAUGUUUUAAUUUCUUUUUUUGAAAAUUUUAACUAAUUGCUUCAUGUUUUAAUUUUUUAAAUGCUUUAACUUUGUCAUGUACAUUCUCAUAUAAUUUGAAUAAUGUUAUUGUCUUCAUGAUAUAAAUAGAAUUUUUUAUCUAUUUUGUAGGAUGAAUAUUUUGUGGAGGAAUUUCCAUCACAAUUGAUAGAUUAUGGCAAACAUUUCACUAUACAUAAAAGAUUCAAAGAUCGAGAAGAGUUUAUUGAAGAGGUUAAACAAAUUGGAGAACAACAAAAUAUAUUUGUGAUUAUUUGUCGUUCCACUAAAGCUGAUGGUUCAGGAAGUGGCAAAGUAUGGAUAGGCUGCGAGAGAUUCGAAGGCCAUAGACCGCAACAAAACAGAAAAACCGAUGUGGUGCCUAGAAAUCGAACUAGGAUGAAGAAGUGUCGUUGUCCCUUUAUGUUGAAGGGUAUUGAACAUGAUGAUGGAUAUUGGACUUUAGUCAUCAUUAAUGGCAACCACAAUCACUACCUUGGAAAGUAUCCUCACGGUCAUUCAUCGGUUGGUAAAUUAAAGGAAGCAGAGUUCAAGAUAGUAGCUACAAUGACCGAAAGUCAUGUUAAGCCACAACUUAUUUUAAAUCACCUCAAACAGGAGAAUCCAAGCAACUUGAGUUGUGGGAAACAUGUCUACAAUGCCAGGCAAAAGCUUAAAGAUUAGAAAAAGAAUGGUCGUUCAGUGAUGCAACAACUACCCAAAUUGCUAAUUGAUCAUGGUUAUAUCACCACUGGUAUAGAGAAGAUGCAGAAACUAACACAGUGAGUGAUAUAUUAUUUGCUCAUCCAAAAUCUAUUCACUUGUUGAAUGUUUAUCCAUAUAUUUUGAUUAUGGAUAGUACUUGCAAGACUAACCGAUACUUGAUGCCCUUAUUUGAAGUUGUUGGGGUUGCGCCAAUAGGGAAAAUUUUUACUGUUGCAUUUGUAUUUCUCAAAAAUGAGAAAGAGGAUAGCUACACAUGGGAACUUGAGCAUUUGAAGCUUUUAAUUGAUUCAGAUGAUUUCCCUAAAGUUAUAGUUACUGACAGGGAAUUGGCUUUAGUCAAUGCAUUGAAAAACAUAUUCCACAAUUCUUAUCAUAUUUUAUGCAGACGUCAUAUCGGGAAAGAUGUGGAAAAAUAUUUUACUAACUUGGUAAAGAAUAAGGACAUUGGAACUUCUUUUUCCCAAGGACGUUGGCAUAAGGUGGUUGAAGCUCAAACCCAACAGGAAUAUGAGGAUCGACUAGGGGAGAUGAAUGAGGCUUAUUCACAUAUGUCCGGUUUGUUGAAAUAUGUGCAUGAGACAUGGCUUGGACCUUUCAAAGAGAGAUUUGUUCGUGCAUGGACGAAUUGUGCAUUACAUAUGGGUCAUCUAACAACUAACAGGUAUUUUAUCUUUUUAAUUUGUAAUGUUUAUUGAUUAAUUUCUAUUGUCAAUAAUAGGGUGCAGGGAGAGUGCACAUUCAGAGUUAAAGAGCUAUUUAGGAUCAUCCAUAGCAAGAUUUGACUUGAUAUGGCUCAAAAUUGACUCAAUGAUAAAUCUGCAGCUUGAGGAAAUUAAAAGAGAGUUGGAAAGGGCUCGAACUGUCUCUCUUCAUAUUAUAGUGUUGCACUUAUUUCGGAGGUUGAAUGGCAAUGUUACCCACAAAGCAAUCCAAUUGCUAGAUGAAGAAUGUUAACGAGCAGAAAAGGUGCGCAGUGAUACCUUAGAUUGCGGGUGUUAUUUGAGGAAAACACAUGGCCUUCCAUGUGCGCAUGAACUUUUUGCACUUAUGCAGGAUGGUAAAAGUAUUGAGUUGUAAGAUAUUCACCCCUUUUGGAAAACACUUGAUAUGGAAGUUGUAAAAGAUAGUGCUCCUGAUUCUGAUGAGGAAAAUAAGUUGUUGCGGUCAUUAUUUGAUAGAAUGAUCCAACAACCUCGUAAUGUCAAGAGAAGAUAUAUUGAAGAGUUGGGAAAAAUUGUUCACCCUGAGUGGACAAAUCUCAAGGAACCACUUGUACGACAAACUAAAGGUCGACCGAAAAAAAUGCCACGAAGCGGGAUCAAUCUGCUUGGGAAUAUGCGGAAAAGAAGUAUCCUGGAAAAUCAUGCAAGAAAAGGUCGUCAUCUGGAUCAUUGCAUGGUCGUCGACAAUCAAGGUCAAUUUCAAGCCAUGUUAGAAAAUUCCCAUUCGUAAAUGCAGUUCCAAAAUUUGUUCUUCCAUUUAUUAAUCAUUACUACAAUGUUAAGGCGGAUGGAAAUUGCGGGUACAGAUCAAUUGCUUAUUUUAUCUAUUCUGAUGAGGAGAAAUGACGGCCCACUGUGAGAAGAGAUUUGUUAAAUGAGAUGAAUGGUUGAUUAGGGUUAUAUGCAAAUAUAUUCGGAGGGGAAGAUCGUGCACAAUCUAGUAUUGUUUCACUUCAACAUUGGGAAGGUGAUGCAAAUGAAUCCAAAUGAAUGGAUGUGACGGAUACGUCAUGGGUCAUUGCCAACACAUAAUGCUGUAUGUGUUUCUUUUUCUGCGUCACAAAAUUUGACAUACUUACCUUUGAACGCAACCAAAGAUGUACAAGGUCUUACGAGAGUCAUUACAAUUGUUUAUUUGGAGUCAGCUCGACACUUCAUAGCGGUAUAAUUCUUUUAUUUAUUCUUAUAUUUACACACACGCAAAUACAUCCUAAUUGUUGAUAUUGUAAUUGUUGUGUUUUUUUAUAGGUAAAUAUGGUUUCAGAUUUUCCAUUGCCAAGAAUUCAUCUCAGUUGGUAUUCGUUUCAUGAUGUAAGUGUAUUCAAUUGGGAUGAGCAAUUUAAGCUGAGGUUAGAGGAGUGGCGUAAACAAUUUGGAACAAUUAUAGUAGAUUAUGUCGACCUUGAUUGAGUUCAUGAUUCAACACAUUGAGAAGGUAUUUAGUUGAUUAUAUUUAUUGACUUUUGAACAUAUGUAGGAUUUAAGUCCUAUUAUGUUUUGACCUUUUUUUAGGCUCUUUGAUUACAUACUUUGUUUUAUGAGUCUUUACUUCGCAUACACAAUAAUUAUUACAUUGUUCAUAUUCUUAAUCAAUCUCUAAUUAUAUGCAAUAUUUUUGUUUGGGUUACAAAAAAAAUCAUAUUGAACACAAUAAAAAAUAUUUUUUUAAAAAAAACCAUUCCAAUUAAAUAUUGUUUAUUUUAAAAUUUUAAUAAUAAUUUUUAUUUUAAAAAAAAUGAGUUAUGAAUUUCACAUUAAAACAUUGAAUAUAAUAAAAUCAUUUUACAUAAUAUACUUUUGGUGAAAAAAAUCAUUUUAUAAUUUAUUAUUUAAAGAAAUUAUUUUGUUUUAAAAUAUAAGAAGAAUAUGAAAAACAAUUGAGUGUGAAAAAAUAAAAGAAAUGAAAAGAAAAAAAAAACAAAGUUUAUGUGGGGUGGGGGGUUGGGUGGGUAGAGAUGAAAAGGAAGAUAAAAAUAAAAAUAAAUAAAAAAAAGAAUGCUAAAAUGUGGGGUGGAAAAAUAAAUAAAUAAAAGGGUGCAAUUGGAACGUGAGGUUGGGAAGGAGAGAGGGGGAAAGAAUAAGGGAGGGUAGUUUAGGAAUGUAAAAUGUUGUAUUAGUAAAAAUGGUGUUGUGAUUAGCAAUUGGGAUAUAACCAUAAAAAUAAAAAUGGAAAAUCAUCUAUAAAUAAAUCAAAACAAAAUAUAAAAAGAAAAUAAUAUUUUCAUGGUUGAUUAAUUCCAUGAGUUGGAUGAUAAAAGCAUUAAUAUCGAGUUGGAGGCAAAACCAAUAACCAUCAGAAAAUAUUCUUCCAUUGCUACCACACAAUGCUGUAGAAUUUUCCUAAGAGAGGUCAGUGGAAAAGAGACAUGCAAGACGUGCAAGAAUUUUCCUAGGAACUUCUUCUAUUGCUUCCACACAGUGGAAAUGAGACUUUGACUCACCAGUCGUUGGGCCUCAAGUCUGCCACAACCUGUUUUGGAUGGCCAUAAGAUUAUUGAUGGGCUGCUUAAACGUUGCUUUGAGUUAUGGUUAACAUGAAAAUAUCAACCAGAAGGUGGUCUGCUAAUCUUGUUUUCUUGCUUAUUUAUUCAGGUUUUCACUGGCAAUUUGUUAAUGCAUUUACAAAUACAAUCUUACAAGGUCAAUCGUUCACAAACUCUCUGAUAAGGGAGAAUAAUUUGAUUCUCCAUAAGAUUUGCUAUAUCCCAAUUCGGUUCCAUAAAAUCCGAAAGUAUAGUUGUAAAUAUAUGUAGAUAUGUUUUCAAUAUUUGUAUUUCAAACCUUUCCUAUUUUAUAGGAUCACAUUGUUGUUAUUUAUUCUAUAUAUAUUUGAUGUUAUCUCCUGCACACGACAAGGAGGAUUUCAGUCAUUAUACAUUGUUUCUUAAACAUCUUUAUGGUAUUAGAGCAAAGUUUUUUUUCUUUACCAUGGCUGAUUUGACUUCUUUAUCUCCUUCUCUUCCGCUUAACACAGUGGUGCAUAUGCUCACCAUUAAACUGACUUCCUCAAAUUACUUAUUGUGGAAAAAUCAAUUUGUUCCACUAUUAGCCAGUCAAGAUUUGUUUGGCUAUUUGGAUGGUAGCAUCGGGGCUCCCUCCGCCACAAUUCUUACCGCUGAUGGCACCACCAAGUCAAAUCCAACGUACGCUUCUUGGCUACAUACUGAUCUGACGUUUCUUAGUUUACUCUAUUCUUCUCUUACCGAGGAGUCUAUGAGUGAAGUAUUGGGUUUACGUCAUUCUCAUGAGGCUUGCUGCGCUCUUGAAGUCUCAUUCUUACAUCGGUCGAAGACUUGUGAAUUGCAACUCAAGGAUGAACUCCAACUGAUGCAACGCGGCUCUCAGUCCAUUGUCGAGUUUUCCCAUACCUUCAAAGGUCUUUGUGAUCAAUUGGCUGUGAUCGGUCGUCCCAUUGACGACACAGAUAAAGUUCACUGGUAUUUGCGAGCAUUAGGGCCCGACUACAAGAUCUUCUCCACCACCAUGAUGUCACAGCUUCCGCUACCCUCAUUUACCGAGAUUGUUUCAAAAACUUUGAGUCAUGAGAUUUUUGAAAGGUUGGUUUCCCACUCGUCUUCUAACUCUACUUAUUAUGUGCAGCAAACUUCCAAAUCUGUAGGGGCUAAGAAAUGGAAGAAUGGGCCUCCCCCUUCAUCUAGAUCUUUUGCACAUUCGAAGUCAUCAUCCACCGUUCACUGCCAGUUGUGUGACAAUGAUGGACACCGAGCCAAACGUUGCUGGAGCUUCUUAAAACUCAAGAAGAAGCAGUCAGCUAAUAUUGCUGAAGUUUUUUCAACCUACUCGAUUCAAGACCUUAAUGACUCUGAAUGGUUUCUUGAUUCUGGUGCAACGUCCCAUAUGAUAAGUGACACUGAGGUUGUGGAUCAACCAGCUCUCUACUCUAGUAAUGAACAUGUCAUGGUUGGAAAUGGUCAGUCUUUAGCAAUUUCUCAUACUAGUUCCAUUUCAUCUAUUAUUCCGUCUAGUUCUCUUCUUUUAUCAAAUGUCUUAGUUGUUCCUAGCAUUAAGAAAAAUCUUAUUUUGAUUAGUCAACUUACUACAGACAAUAAUUGUCUUGUUACCUUCUCUUCCUCUGGUUUUAUCAUAUAGGAUCAGGUCACAAGAAUCGUACUGGGAGUCGAAAGAUGUGAAAAUGGUUUCUAUGUGUUGGAUCGUUGUCAUCAUGCCCUUAUGUCCACCACUUCUCCUUCACCGCGAGCCUCUGUUCGUUUAUGGCAUGCUCGCCUUGGUCAUCCCAAUUAUCGUACUGUCUCUUCUCUUUCUAGAUUAGGAUAUAUUUCUUGUAGUAAUAAAUUGGUGAUCAUUGAUUCUGAAAUUUGUGUUGGUUGUAGACUUAGCAAAAGCCAUUGUUUACCUUUUUCUCUAAAUGAUGAACGUUGUGCCAUGCCUUUUGAUCGCUUACACUAUGAUUUAUGGGGUCUGUCACCAGUUCUCUCUUUUACUGGAUAUAGAUACUAUGUGGUAUUCAUUGAUGAUUGUACUAGAUUUAGUUGGAUAUUCCCUUUAAAACAAAAAUCUGAUUAUUUUGAUACCUUCAUCCAUUUACAACGUUAUAUUGAGACUCAAUUUUCAUCCAAAAUAAAAUCCUUUCAAUGUGAUGGUGGAAUCGAAUUUACAAAUAAUAAAUUUCGAUCUCACUUGCAAUCUUGUGGCAUUGUUCUCCGUUUGGCAUGCCCCUACACUCCUAGUCAAAACGGCAUUACCAAACGUAAGCAUCACUAUGUCACAUAAAUGGGUCUUACCCUUAUGUUCCAUGCACGUGUGCCGCUCUCUUUGUGAGUUGAGGCCUUCCCAACUGCUGUCUUUCUCAUUAAUCGACUCCCGUCACCAUUACUUGAUGGCAAAACUCCUUAUGAGCUCUUGUUUAGUAAGCAACCAGAUUACUCUAUGCUUCGGACUUUUGGGUGUGUUUGCUUCCCUUAUUUGAAAGAUUACUCACCAAAUAAAUUGUCUCCAAAAUCUACUUCUUGUAUCUUUUUAGGUUACAGUACACUUCAUAAAGGAUUUUGAUGCCUUGAUCAAACGACACAUCGUGUCUAUGUUUCUCGACAUGUGCAGGCUUGUGAAAAUACUUUUCCUUAUCAUGGUGAUUCUAUACAAAAUUUACAAACCAACAUUGACUAUACCCAUUUUUCUGAAUGUUCAGACUAUGUGUCUAGUUUUUCUCAUUCAUUUUUUAGUUCACCAUGUUUGCCUUGCAGUGAUUCUCCACACCUGUCCUCAUAUCCUCCCCCUGAUCUGCAAGGUCCUAUUUCUGUGGAACCCCUCUCGGAUUCUACAGCUUUAGACUCAACUUUCCCACUACCAGUGUCUUCCAUUCCUCGUGUGACCACUUCCAGCCACCCGAUGAUUACCAAUGGAAAAGACGGUAUAUUCAAACCACGAUUAUAUCAUGCUAUGAAUGUUUUGUCUUCUUUUCAAACUUUUCAAGCACUUCUUGCUCUCAAAGAACCUCGGGGUUUUAAGUCUGCUACAAAACACCCUGAAUGGCUCUUGGCUAUGGAUGAUGAGAUUCAAGAUUUGAAGACAAAUGAUACAUGGGUUCUUGUACCUCGUCCUAACAAUCACAAUGUAGUAGGCUGUCGCUGGAUUUUUGAAACCAAACUUCGAUCAGAUGGGUCCAUUGAGCGUCACAAGGCACGUCUCGUGGCUCAAGGAUUUUCUCAGAUUCAUAGUCUUGAAUUUGGUGACACAUUUAUUCCUGUAGUGCGCCCUGCUAUAGUUAGAAUUAUUUUGUCAUUGGCUGUUACUUCUGGAUGGCGUUUACAUCAGCUAGAUGUAAAAAAUGCCUUUCUACAUGGUUUUCUCAAUGAAGAGGUGUAUAUGGAACAACCGCCUGGUUACAUAGAUCCACAGUUCCCUCAGCAUGUUUGUCGCCUAAAGAGGGCUCUUUAUGGGUUGAAACAAGCCCCUCGAGCUUGGUUUCAUCAUUUUAGCUCUUUUUUGCUCAAACUUGGAUUUCUUUCCGGUCAGGUUGAUUCUUCAUUAUUUGUCUAUCACUCCUCAGUUGGAACUGUUUAUUUACUUCUUUAUGUUGAUGACAUGGUCAUGACUAGAAGUAAUUCUUCUAUGGUUCAAACCCUCAUUACUUGACUUUCCAAGGAAUUCUCCAUAGGGAUUUGGGUGAUCUUCAUUAUUUCCUCAACGUUGAAGUGCAAGCUAAUGAGAAGGGUUUGUUUUUCACAACAUGCUUUUUUCUGCGUAUACAUUUGUAAUCAUGCAGUUAUUAAAUGAAUUGUUAUAAUAAUGAAUCUAGUGGCUAUAUGUCCCCAGAGUAUGUUUUGUGAGGUCUCUUUUCAACUAAAUCUAAUGUUUUUAGCUUCGGGGUCUUGUUACUAGAGAUUCUAAGUGGCAAGAAGAUUACCAAAUUUUAUCAUAGUGACUCACUCAAUCUUCUUGGAUAUGUAAGUAACACAAUUUUCCUCUUAUGUACCUAAAGUUAUCAUGUUUACUACUAUAUUUCAAGCUUGAAGUUAGAUCCUUGAAUGCAAUUGACCAAAUUAGGACUAUAUAUCUUUCUUUUUUUGGGGAAUUGUUCAUCAAAGUAUAAUUUUUUUUCCUUUAGGCACGAGACCUGUGGAAAAACAACAGAGGACAAGAGUUGAUUGAUCCAGUACUAAAUGAGAUAUCUUGAAGACAUAUUCUGUUAAGGUACAUCAAUGUAGCCCUUCUUUGUGUUCAAGAAAGUACAAAUGAUAGGCCCACCAUGUCCGAUGUUGUCUCCAUGCUUGGCAAGGAAAAUGUACUUUUAUCUUCUCCAAAUGAGCUGGCCUUCUCAAAUCUAUCGAGUAUGAAACGACAUGCAUCUCAAGAUAGGCUUGAAAUUUGUUCCUUAAAUGAUGUAACACUUUCAAGCGUGGGAGCAUGAUAAGUGUUCUAAAUUUCAGAUUGCAUAUGCUUAAAUGUCUUCAGCAUAUUGUCUAGUAUUAUAUCGGCCAUCAAGUUGAUUGUUGAUGUACUGAACGUGUGAACUUUUGUAUGUAUUUUUCUUUCAAUGUAAUUCAAUAAUGUGCUUAAUUUUACUCAAUCCUCAAGGAUUCAAACCUGUAUCUCAUCUUCCCAUCUGUAAUUGCUACUGAAUUUGCUUUUAUGCAUUUCCAAUCCAGAGUGUACAGUCGUUAGAGCUCAUUGCAAAUAUUCAACUAGUACUAGGAAAGAUGAGCUUUUGCGCAUGCUACAGCUAAGCAUAAGUACUAAUUAACAUAUAGGCAAAAGGGAAAGUGAGGAAGGAAAGCAGCUAUAGAUUUCUUUGCCUUUUAAGCUGUGAUAUCAUCUAACAUUUUUUUAAGGGAAGAAAUAUUAUAAUUGAAGGUUUACGUUGAGUACUCGUAAAACCUUCUUUUCUUAUUGGACAUGGUUUCAAUAAAAUCCAUUUGGUUGUCAAGAAAUCUGAGGGAGUUGAGGAUGUGGAUGAGGAAUUUGAAGUCUACCCUCGUCCCUAUAGCUUAAAAUGAAAAGGCAUAGUUACAAACUAAGCUUACAUCGUGGCAGAAACGUUUAUAUUCCUUAGUGGGGCUUGUAGUAGGAGAUCGACCCAGAAGCCAACCAGAAAAGACAUGCAUCUAUCGUUCAAAUGAUUUUCUAAACUUAUUAAAUUGAUUUUCAAGAACUUGAUAAAUACCUCAUUUCUAUAAUAAGGUGAUUUCAAACGUUAGAAAACAGUGAAGGAAAAUGUGAAAUCACUCUACCACCAAGCAUAGAUGGACACUCAAGAAUAAAUAGUAGAGUUGGAUUUUAACACAAACCUCUUUUAAAGAAGAGAAUGUAAAGAUGAUUAUGAAAAAUUAGGUGUUGUUUGUUUUUAAAAAAUUUUUUAUAGAAAAAAUAUUUUUGUUUUAGAUUUCAAAUAGUUUGUUAUUGUACAUUUUGUUAAUAUAUUACUUAUUUCUUAAAUUUUUUAUUAUAAAAAAAGAUAUUUGACUUUUUCUGGAUGCUAAAAGUAAUUUAUAGGUUUUUUUUACUUCUUAAAUAUUUAAUAAAAAUAAAAUAUUUUAAAAAAUAACUUAAUAGUUAACAUUAUUAAAUACUAUUUAGUUUUAAAUUCAAAUUAAAUUAAGGAAAAAAAAAGUAAAACCACCUUAAUAUUAAAUUUGGUUGAAAAAAUAAAUCUCUUAUGUUUUUCCUCCACCCAUAAGUGACUUUGUGCUAGCGUACAAAGAAGUAAUGUGGGCCUAAUGGGGGAUUUUUGAUAUUUUCCUUUUUUUUUAAUAAGAUAUUUGUAAAAAAGUUGUAGUUAUAUAAAUGAUUUUAAACAAUGUUGUAUCCUAAGGGGACCUCCUUCCAUACAAAAAAUGCAUGUGGUAUUCUUCAAAUUAUUAAAUUGUAUCUAGCGAAAAGGUCGAAUGUGAAUUUGAAAAAAAGGAGAAUUCCCAUUUAGGGUGAGCUAACACUGAUAAUGACCCAAAAGGGUCACCAUGUUUACAAAUUCCUAUCAAGACCUUUGAAAAGUUGAUAAUUUCAUAAUUCUAAUUUUACCUUUUUUUUUCUUUUUUUUUUUUUCAUUUUUCCUAUUAUUCUCAUUUAAUUUUACCUUUUUUAUUGUUUUUCUUUUAUACUUCUUUACACAUUAUUAUUAUUAAUGUUAAUAUUAUUAUUUAUAAUAUUAAUAUUUUGAAUUAUUCAUGUUAUUUAUUAAUAUCAUUCUUACUAAUAUUAUUUAUUUUUAUGAUUAUUAUUCAUAUUUUAAAAAUAAUAAUUAAAAAAAUAAAAUAAAAUAAAGAAAAGACAAAAUAGGGAAAAGGCAAAGUAAGGAUAUGUUUGACUUUAAAAUAAAGGACCUAAGGGUAUGUUUGAGUUUUUAUAUUUUGAAGCACAUGAAAGAUUAUCAAGUUGAUGACUCAUUAUCAAUAGAGCCCACCAUCUUUGGUGAUUCUCCUUUUGAAAAAUGAUAAAUGAACAAACAGGUCAAACAUUAGUAGUAUGGAGCCCACCAUCUUUGCUAAUUCUCCGUUUGAAAAAUGGUAAAUGAACAAACGGGUCAAACAUUAAUACCGAGAACAACUCUUCCGUGUCAUACCUCUCCAAUUAUAAUAAAGUAGCAUCCGGUCAAUUUCAAUUUUUUGACCAUAUUUAUUUUAUUGAAUUAGAAUUAUAAUUUAAUAAAAAUGAUAAGAAUUAUAACAACCAAUUCUAUUAUUUAAAGAUAAAUUGUCUAAAUAAGAUUAAAAAUUAAAAAUUAAUCCAUCUAACAACAAAUUUAAAAUGGAUUUAUAUAUCAUAAAAUAUCAUGACCGAAGAAACCAAUAACCAUAAAAAUAAAAGUAGAAAAAUCAUCUAUAAACAAAUCAAAGAAAAAAAAAGAAAACAAAAUUUUUAUGUUUGAUUAACUCUGAGUUGGAUAUCUUCCACGACAGCUGCAAUGAUGAAUGUAAAGAGAAAGAAUGGAAGAAGAGAGACAAAAUGAAGUAUCAAGGAAAGUGAGGGCCGGUUAUAUAUAUAUAUAUAUAUAUUUUCAAUUUUAAGAUGCAUGGUGAAGAUCUCAUCUUGCACAUCCAUUGGCGCAAGAUAUUCAUCAAUUGCUACACAGUGCUGUAGAAUUUUCCUAAGGGAGGCCAGUGUAAAGGAGACCUGCAAGAUGUUCUUCUAUUGCUACCACACAGUGGAGUAGAAUUGAUAUUCUUCGAUUGCUACCACACAGUGGUGUAGAAUUUUCCUAGAAGAAAUAUUGAAAAGGAGGUCAGUGGAAAGGAGAUUUCGACUCAUCAGUCGCUGGGCCACAGGUCUGCCACUGCCUGUUUUGGAUGGCCAUAAGAUUAUUGAUGGGCUGCUUAAACGCUGCUUAUGAGUUAUGGGUAACAUGAAAAUUUCAACAAGAAGGUGGUCUGCUAAUCUCGUUUUCUUGAUUAUUUCUUCAGGUUUUCACUGGAAAUUUGUUGAUGCCUUUACAGAUACAAUCUUACAAGGUCAAUCACUCACAACCUCUCAGACCAUUAUAUCUGCUGCUGGUAACUUUGAAUUAGGAUUCUUUUCUCCUGGAAAGUCCACAAAAUAUUAUGUGGGGAUAUGGUACAAGAAAUUCUCAGAGCAAACCAUUGUGUGGGUAGCUAACCGAGAUUAUUCAUUCAUAAAUCCAUCCGUGGUUCUUACUGUCAGCACAGAUGGCAACCUCGAGAUUUUGGAGGGGAAGAUUUCGUACAAGGUGACAAGCAUAUCAUCAAACAGCAACACUAGUGCCACCCUGUUGGAUUCUGGAAAUCUUGUUUUGAGAAAUAAGAGUCAGAUGUCUUAUGGGAGAGCUUUGACUAUCCAUCGGACACGCUCCUGCCCGGAAUGAAACUUGGAUAUGACAAAAGGGCUGGAAAAACAUGGUCAUUGGUGUCAUGGAAGAGCAGAGAAGAUCCCAGUCCAGGAGCUUUCUCCAUAGAACACGACGCGAAUGAAAGUAGCCAGAUUUUUAACCUGCAAGGACCCAAAAUGUAUUGGACUAGUGGGGUGUGGGAUGGGCAGAUUUUCAGCCAGGUUCCUGAGAUGCGUUUCAUCUACAUGUACAAGUACAAUACAUCCUUUAAUGAGAAUGAAAGCUAUUUUUCUUACUCUCUUCAUAAUCCCUCCAUUCUGAGCAGAGUGGUGCUAGAUGUGUCAGGCCAGGUUAGGCGUCUGAAUUGUCAUGAAGGCACACAUGAAUGGGAUUUAUAUUGGCUUCAACCAAAAACACAGUGUGAGGUUUAUGCUUACUGUGGGCCUUUCGGAACCUGCACUCGGGAUUCUGUUGAAUUUUGUGAAUGCUUGCCAGGUUUUGAACCUCGCUUCCCUGAAGACUGGAAUCUGCAAGACAGAUCUGGAGGGUGUGUGAGGAAAGCAGAUUUGCAGUGUGUCAAUGAAAGCCAUGCUAAUGGGGAGCGAGACCAGUUUCGUUUGGUGUCUAACGUGAGACUGCCCAAGUAUCCAGUAACAAUACAAGCAAGGAGUGCUAUGGAGUGCGAAUCAAUUUGCCUGAAUAGCUGCCCUUGCUCCGCUUAUGCUUAUGAGGGAGAGGAGUGUAGAAUAUGGGGUGGAGAUCUUGUAAACGUGGAGCAGCUACCAGAUGGUGACAGUAAUGGUAGAAGUUUCUAUAUCAAACUUGCUGCCUCUGAGCUAAAUAAGAGAGGUAAGAAAACAGAGUCAUAGUUGUUAUUGUAGGAGGACAUAAAGCAUAUGGGUCUUGUUUUAUUUUCAAUAUAAAAUGGCCAUCGAUUCAACUAAAUUUAAUAUGAUAUAUUUCGUUCUACAGUUUCAAGCAGCGAGUGGAAGGUAUGGCUAAUUGUUACACUGGCCAUAUCUUUAACUUCAGCCUUUGUCAUUUAUGGGAUAUGGGGAAGGUUCCGAAGAAAAGGUCAGUAUUUCUCAUGGACAUACAGAUGGCCAAGCAAUUCAACAAUUUUUAGUUUCCAUCUACAAAUACAAAACCAGUUCUUUUCUGAAAUGAGUUCAUUACCACUGUUAUUAAAUAAUUAAGGUAACAUUAGGAUUUCAUGUUCUGAUUACAUGUGAGUGUGUAUGUGGAAUCCAAUGUGAGAAAUAAUUUAUUCCCAUGCCAGAAUUCCUACAUUCUUAUGAUAUUUAAUGUCUGUUUGUUAUUUACCAAGCAGGGGAAGAUUUGUUACUAUUUGAUUUCGGUAACAGCUCAGAAGAUACCAGCUGCUAUGAGCUUGGCGAGACAAAUAGACUUUGGAGGGGCGAGAAGAAGGAAGUUGAUUUGCCCAUGUUCAGUUUUGCGAGUGUAUCUGCUUCUACAAAUAACUUCUGUAAUGAAAAUAAACUAGGAGAGGGCGGUUUUGGAUCUGUUUACAAGGUGAGAUUACAACCCCUGACAAUAAUGUUCUACAAUCUAUCUUGGAAUGUAAAGGCCCACUUGAUAUAUACCAAAUUUCUUUUACUUGGUGUAAUUGUACUCAGUUGAAAUUCCCAUGACAGGGAAAGUCACAAAGAAGAUAUGAAGUAGCUGUGAAAAGGCUCUCAAAAAGAUCUAAACAGGGAUGGGAGGAGUUAAAAAAUGAAGCCAUGCUUAUAGCCAAGCUGCAACACAAGAAUCUUGUGAAAGUUUUGGGAUACUGCAUCGAGCGGGAUGAGAAGAUAUUGAUUUACGAGUAUAUGUCCAACAAAAGCUUGGAUUUCUUCCUCUUUGGUUUGUAACUUCCACAUACAUAUACUUCCGACUACUGUAUAUUCAAUGAGAAAACUUUACACAUUCAUCAUUCUUCACCACUUAUUUGCUAACAUCUAUUUAUUUGGUGUAAAAUGGAGAUAGAUCCUACAAAACAUGGGAUUCUGAAUUGGAAGACAUGGGUUCACAUCAUUGAAGGGGUUGCUCAGGGACUUCUUUAUCUGCAUCAGUACUCCAGAAUGAGGAUUAUUCAUCGAGAUUUGAAGGCUAGCAACAUUCUUCUAGAUAAGGAUAUGAAUCCUAAAAUAUCAGAUUUUGGAAUGGCAAGAAUAUUUGGAGGCAACGAACCAAAAGCAACAAAUCAUAUAGUUGGGACUUAGUAAGUGAAACCUGACAAAUUAUAAAAUAUGUGAAUGUUCAUACAACAUUUGAAAUCAUGCAGCUACUGAAUGAUUUUUCUCAUUAAUAAUCAAAUCCAGUGGCUAUAUGUCUCCUGAGUAUGCUUUGGAAGGUCUUUUCUCCACUAAAUCUGAUGUCUUUAGCUUUGGGGUCUUGUUAAUGGAGAUUUUGAGUGGCAAGAAGAAUACUGGAUUUUACCAAACCGACUCGCUCAAUCUUCUUGGAUAUGUGAGUAACACAAUAUUUAUUCACUUACAUAACUAUUUAUGAUGUUUUGAUAUGCUAAUUCCUAGUUUUCAAUUCCCUUGUCAUAUUACCUAUCCGGUUGUCUUGGGAUACUGGUAAAUUUUCACAUUUAUGUCUUCAACUCAGUUUCAAGGCUUAUUUUAUAUUGUUGGCUGAUAUAAAAAGGACUUUAUUAUCUUUUACUUUUUAGGAAUUUGCAUCAAUGGAUAAUUUUCUUCAUUUAGGCAUGGGAUCUGUGGAAAGACAGCAGGGGGCAGGAGUUGAUGGAUCCAGGGUUGGAAGAGACUUCGCCAACACACAUUUUGUUGAGGUACAUCAAUGUAGGCCUUCUUUGUGUUCAAGAAAGUGCAGAUGACAGGCCUACCAUGUCUGAUGUUGUCUCAAUGCUUGGCAAUGAAAGUGUACGUUUACCUUCUCCAAAACAACCGGCAUUUUCAAAUCUGAGAAGUGGGGUGGAACCACAUAUAUCCCAAAACAGGCCUGGAAUUUAUUCCUUAAAUGGUGUGACACUUUCAGUUAUGGAAGCACGAUAAUGGUUCAGAACUUAAUAAAUAAUAUGCUUAAAUUUCAGCAUAUUGUCUUGUAUUGUUCUGGGUGAAUUCAUAGCUCAUAUACUAAAAUGGACAAGUGACCUUAUGUGUGAAUUUUUCUUCCAAAACAGUUUAAUAAUCAUCUUGUACUCAAUCCCUAUGGAUUCAGACUUGUGUCUCAUCUUUCAAUCUGGAAUUGCUACUAAAUUUGACUUUAUCCGGUCAAAUUUGGAUUUAAUUUGAAAAUGAUCUGUUCCAUUGUUGAUCCAAAGAGUAAAAUACAACUUUUUUCAUUGCUUAGUAGCUAAGAAAAGGUGCCACUGGGGCCAAUCCAACUAUAGAGAAUCAACCACCCACCUUCCACUUCCUCUCUUAUGGAUGUUUCUGAAUGCCCUGGCAUAUGUAUAUCAUUUCCAUAUAAACCACCAAUUUGGUCUAGGAUCAGUUUCAUCGAGUAUUUCAGGAGACAACAUAAAACAAGUCAAAAAGUAGAUAAUUACGAACUAAUUGGCCAUCCAGCACAGAAAAUCCAUCUCCCAAUGGGGCCUUAAAGCACUUGAAUUUACUGUUCUUUCCAUCAUUAUUUUCAUUCUGGGCAUGGCCUAGAUUGAAGAAAGGUCCGAUACAAAUUGGAAAAGUCAUAGAAGGAAAUAUAUCUAGGAGGGAAUCCUAACAAAAGGUCUUUCAAAAUUGCUACACCUUGCUUUGAAUGGUACCUGGUAUCUUCAUUGAAUGAGUGUUUUUCCUAUGUCCCACCAUUAAAAUGAAUGGGAGUCUCCAAAUUACAUAGAUUUUUUUUUAUAAUGUAUUAUUUUAUAAAUUUCAUAGAAUUAUCAAUUUAGUAUUUUAGCCCCAAAGUCUGUAAAAAACAUGAUUUGCUUAAGGUUAUCAUAUUAUCAUGCAUUAAUUUAUUUAAAUUCUACUAUUUUUUCCUUAAUUAAAAAGUAAAUUUUUAAUUUUUUUUAAAAAAGGUCACUUUUCUCUCUUUUUUCUUUGAAGUCUCUAACUCUAUAACACUCGAACUCAUUUUCUCAUACAAAAUAAAAUUAAUCAAAUUCAAAUUUGAAACAUUGAAAAUUAAUCAAUAACAUAAAAAUCAAUUGAAAAAUGAAUUUAUGUAAUCAAAAACCUUAAUUACUAUCAAAUUACUAACUUUCUAACUAUUUACAUGAUUAAUCAUUAUAAGAUUUUUAUUAUGACAAUAGAUUUUGGUAUUGAUGAUCUAGAACCCUGAUCUGUAAACACACAAGUCCCUGUCAUCAAACCCUGAUCUAGAACAGUAUUUGACAUCAUGGAAAUGCACUGAUGAUUCAUCCACUAGAAACUUCACUUGGAGAUUAGAUAUUCCCAGGCUGCCUCAACUGGCUGUUGGCAUGGGAUCAGUCAAAAAGUACCGCACAGGGCCAUGGAAUGGAGUUUGAUUUAAUGGUGUACCAGUGUUUCCCAAUGAGGAGGUCUAUUUACCAUUAAUGAUUUUUAAUGAGGAGAAUGUAUAUAACUUGUCUCAGGCUGGCAGCUACUCUGCUACUCUGAGAGUCACCAUCAAUCAUUUAGGCUUGCUGCAAUGGAAUACAUUGAAUGAAAGCAAUGACGAGUGGACUACUAUGUACACAGUACCAUAUGACCCAUGUGACAACUAUGGACAGUGUCGUGCUAAUGGCAUUUGCAGGCUUUCCAGCAUGCCAGUCUGUGAGAGUUUGAAGGGGUUCACCCCCAACUCAAAAGGAGAAUGGGAAAUGCUUGAUUGGUCUAGUGAAUGCGAAAGGGCAGGGUCCUUGGAUUGCAAGAGCAAAGAUGACCUUAUGAAGGUCUUAGGGGUGAAAUUGACUGACUUGUUGGAGUUUCGGUUGAACAAGAGUAUGAGCCUCAAGGAAUGUGAGGCAGAGUGCUUGAAGAACUGCUCCUGUGUGGCGUAUGCGAAUUCAAACAUUAAAGGUGGAAGCAGUGGUUGUUUGACCUGGUAUGGAGAUCUGAUUGAUAUUAGAGGGUUCACAGAUGGGAAAAGUGGGCAAGACCUUUAUACCAGAUGUCCAGCUGGGGAACUAGGUAAGAGUAUUUGACACUCUUUUCACUACCAAGCUCUUUUAUUGUUCAUCCAUGAAGGUUUAACAAGCAUUGCAAUCUGGAUUGCAUGGUUGCUUAUUUUCUCUAGGUGAGUUAGGAUCUUUUUCAUUUUUGGGAUAUGAAAGAAAGUUAGGAUUGUUUGUCAUAUAUCAUAGUGGGACAUUUUGACAUGGAAUAGCUAGUAUCCUCAGUAAUGGUUUUUAUCUUUUAACUAAAGCCACAAAAACAAUUGAUGGCCAACUCUCUCUGCAGUAAGGUGCAGACAAGACUGAAGCGAGGAUUUGAUAACAAAAGUUUUUAGCAAAAUGAUUAAAUUUCUUCCCAUCUCCUGUUUCAGGGUCAAUCCAUGGUUCGCAUAAGAAGAAAAAACUGGUUGUUGUCCUAGUUGCAUUGACCAUUUCUGGAAUGCUAAUCUUGGGCUUGGUGUUCUGGUGCAUAAAAAGGAAAAAAAUUGAGGUAAUCCUAAUUAUUGGUCCAUUCAGUGUUUCAACUUUCAUCAUUGAAAAUCUAUAUCAUACAACUGGAUCCUGAGUACAGUAAUGAAGUAGGCACUAUCUCAUCAAUAGGCCUCGAAAGUGAGACGGAAGAUUUGGAGUUACCUUUAUUUGAUUUGGCUACCAUUAAUACUGCUACUAACAACUUCUGUGUCAUAAAUAGAAUUGGCACAGGCUGCUUUGGUCCUGUUUUCAAGGUAACAUUUGAUUGUAAGAAAAAGUGUGUUUCCUAUUAGACAGUAUGCAGGGCAGUUUGUCAAUAGGAUAAGAAGUAGCAGUGAAGAGGUUGUCAAAGAAUUCAGGACAGGGUCUUCAAGAGUUUAAGAAUGAGAUUUUUUUAAUUGCCAAACUCCAACACAAGAAUCUAGUGAAGCUUUUAGGCUGCUGCAUUCAGGGACGAGAAAGGAUAUUACUCUAUGAAUAUAUGCCCAACAAGAGUUUGGAUUAUUUUAGUUCCAUUUGAAAUUCUCAACCCUUUAGAUCUCUUUGGACUGGUUUGGGUACAUGAUCAUCCAUACCAUGCUCAUGCAUCUAUAGAGUUCAAAUAGUUAUAAUCGCAAAAUUUACAAGGGUUGAAAUGAUGUGCAGAUUAAAACAGAAGAGCGUUAUUGCCAUGGAAAAAGCGCUUUGACAUUGUUAUGGGGAUCGUGCAAGGACUUGUUUAUCUCCACCAAGAUUCUAGACUUCAAAUCAUUCAUAGGGAUCUCAAGGCAAGCAAUAUACUGAUAGAUGAAAACCUGAACCCCAAAAUUUCAGACUAUGGCUUGGCAAUAAUUUUUGGAGGGGGAUGAAAUGGAAGCAAAAACAGAGUAAUUGGAACAUAGUAAGUUCUGUGCUUCUACUUUAGAAAUGAUGUGCUUUUCCUUGAAAUAACUUAUAUUUGAAAUCUUCAUGCAGUGGCUACACAUCCCCAGAGUAUGUGAUUGAUUGCAAAUUUUCUGUUAAAUUUGAUAUCUUUAGUUUUGGUGUGCUUCUGCUGGAGAUUGUGGCUGGUAUAAAGAACAGGGGGUUCUAUCAUUCAAACUACCACCAUAAUCUUCUGGGACAUGCAAGUAGAAAGAAUGAAAAUCCACCUCUGUCACACACACACAUCAAAGACGCAUGCCCUCUCUUGCUUUUCUGACAAAGUAUAUGGCUUCCAAUUGCUUUAGACAUGGUUGCUUUGGAAACAAGACAAGGCCUUGGAAGUAAUGGAUGCAUGUUUGGAGGACUCAUGUAUUGAAUCCCAGCUACUAAGAUGCAUACAAGUCGGUUUAUUAUGUGUUGAAAACCUCCCAGCAGAUAGACCAGCUAUGUCAUCUGUUUUUUUCACGUUGGGUAAUGAGGGAGCAACACUUCCUUAACCUAAACAUCCUGGUUUCUUCCCAGAAAUAAGUAAGAUCGAUAUAGAUGCAACAACAGGACGUGAAGAGUUACCUUCAGAAAAUGUAGUAACCAUCUCAGUGCCAGAAGGUAGAUAAAGGAUUCAAGCACUGUGUCAGCAUGUGCAGGGUGCAUCCAAGGUUUAAUUCAUGUAGGAUAUAGCACUAGGCUCUUCAAUGGAUGGACACCAAUUUCCUUAAGGUUGCAAAACUAGAUUACAGCUUGGCCCCAAGGAGGCCAAGGUGUUGGAUUUACUGCACUAGAACCAUAUCUGCUGAGCUUCAUAAUCCUCUAAAUGUAUGAAUAAAAUGUGCUAGAGCGUGUCCUCUAUGGCAGCUCAGGGCAGUGUGACUUGUAACUUAAAACUCACUAGUACAACUUUUGAAAUUCAUAUUUUCACAGGAUCAAGUUGGGUAUAUGCACAAGAAUGUGGAUUCUGCAGUCAACUUGGCUGCUUCACUUUCUUUUCCUCAGAGUUCACAUUUAUAGGGCUUAUAUAGAUGCUGAGCUAUACAAAAAAUCUUGAUUUGAAAUCUCAAGAAUUUCUAGAGGUGUUCAAAAUCCUUUGAAAUGUCCUUGGGAAGUGCAAUGAGCUUGCAACAAAUUGGAGUGAAUGGAGAUAAACAAAUUGAAAAUCAAAUGAGAGGAUUUGAAGCUUAAACAAAUAAACACCUUCACAUAAUAAGGUGUGAAUCUCUACUGUCUCUCUCAAGUUAAGACAUCUUUUAACUUCUUUUCAUCUUCCCAGAAGCUUCAAAAUUUUUUGCAAAACAUUAACUUGAAUACUGUACAGUGGCAAACCUUAGAGGGAGCUUUCAAAUUAUUUAGGAGAAAGAAUUCAAGAACUAUGUAACAGAUGAUUCACAUAGGUAACAGGGGUGAAAUUGCCCGACUUAAUAGAUUUUCAUGUGAUUAUGAGUGUGAGCCUUGGGGAGUGGUGUAAGGCGUUGUGCUUGAACAACUGUUCUUGUACAGCAUAUGCCUACUCAAAUCUUAAUGGAAGCAGUGGCUGUUUGAUGUGGUCCGGGAACCUGAUUGAUAUCAGAGAGUUAAGUACAGAAACAAAUAAGGAGGACAUCUAUAUCCGCGGGCACACUUCUGAGCCAGGUAAGACACUUGAUUUUUUGUAACUCACUUUUUUCUUUUAAGCUAUCGGGGUUCUCUCCAAUAGCCUCAGCCCUGAGUUAUCCUGGUAAUCAAGACGCAGAAUAACUUAUUUUCCAGAGGACAGAGAUUCAACUUCACAAGAAAAUUAUAAUCUAGUUAAAAAUAAUACCCUUAUAUUAUGCUCCUGAAGAACCAUAGUUCUUAGGAUCCAGGUUAACUAAUGAUGAACUGACUUGUAAUAAUCCUAACAAGCAGAAAGCAAAUAUCUGAUUCAUUUUCUGAAGAAGCAGGGAAAUCUGGGGAAAUAGAUACUUCAUUCCUGUCACCGUCUGUUCCAGAGUCAUACACUAAUCAGAAGACCAAAAAAAUAGUGAUCAUCCUUGUUAUAUCCAACUAUUUUGGAAUCCUCACCUUGGGCUUAGCAGUAUGGUUUCUAUUUCUGAAGAAGAGAACAAUGGGAACAGGUAUGCAUACUUAUCCACCUUGAUGAUUUUGUUGAAAGAAAACCAUGUGGCAGUGCUUUAAAAGUUACUUCUAAGUUAUUAUCCCUUUUAACAGACCAGGAAAGCAAGAAGGAGAACUUAGAGUUACCUUUGUUUGACUUGCCUACCGUUGCAACUGCUACUAACAACUUCUCCAACACCAAUAUGAUUGGAGCAGGUGGCUUUGGGCCUGUGUACAAGGUAAUAUGCGCCAUCUAAUGCAUCUCGGUAACCCAAAAAUGAUCUCGAAACAAAGAAGAGAAAAAUAUUUGCAUCUUACACAUCAUAUUUUGCAGGGCAAUCUGCCAGAAGGAGUAGCAGUAGCAGUGAAGAGAUUGUCCAAGAAUUCAGCACAGGGUGUGCAAGAGUUCAAUAAUGAAGUUGUUUUGAUGGCGAAACUUCAGCACAAGAAUCUUGUCAGGCUUUUGGGCUGCUGCGUUCAAGGAGAAGAAAGAAUUUUACUCUACGAAUCUAUGCCCAACAAAAGCUUGGAUUAUUUUAUUUUCGGUUUGAGCUCCGUAUCCUUAUCUGUUUGGAUUAGUUUCACUUUUUGAUCACCCAUCUUAUGCUCAGUCGUGUUCAGCUCAAUUCACACAUCUAAGUAAUGAAUUAGGCCUAAUAAAAAAUUUUAUGAAGGCGGAUGUAUUGUGCAGAUCAAAACAGAAGAGCAUUAUUGGCAUGGGAUAAGCGCUGCGAGAUUGUUAUGGGAUAGCACGAGGGCUUCUCUACCUCCAUCAAGACUCUAGAUUUCAAAUUAUUCACAAGGAUCUCAAGACGAGCAAUAUUUUACUGGACGACAAUCUCAACCCUAAAAUUUCAGACUUUGGCUUGGCAAGAAUUUUUGGAGAGAAUGAAAUGGAAACGAGAACAAAGAGAAUUAUUGGGACUCAGUAAGUUAUAAACCUUUAUAAUUUUAUAAAAUGGAAUUUAUCCCUUCAAAUAACUCGUACUUAAAAAUGUUGGUGCAGUGGCUAUAUGUCCCCUGAGUAUGUGAUUGAGGGGCACUUUUCUGUCAAAUCAGAUGUUCUUUAGCUUUGGUGUUCUUUUACUAGAGAUUGUGAGUGGUAAAAAACCAGAGGGUUCUCUCAUCCAUAUCACCACCACAACCUUCUGGGACAUGUAACUAGAAAGAAUGCAAUGGUGUUUCCUCUCUCUCUCUCUCUCUCAAUUUGUCUCUACUCUCUACCUUUUUCUGGGUUUUGUGGAAGACAAUAAAUAUGAUUUUUGCUCUAGGCAUGGCUGCUGUGGGAACAAAACAAGGCCUUGGAAUCAAUGGAUGCAUGUUUGGAAGAUUCAUGUGUUGCAUCGCAGGUAUUACGAUGCAUACAAGUAGGUUUACUAUGUGUUCAGAACCUUCCAGCAGACAGACCAGCAAUGUCAUCAAUGAUUUUCAUGUUGGGUAAUGAGGGAGCAACAUUGCCUCAACCUAAACAUCCUGGUUUCUUCACGGAAAGAUGUUCAGUGGAUACAGAUACAAUGUCAGGAAAGAUAAGAGUUACAUUCAGAAAAUGAAGUAACCAUCUCAAAGCUAAAAGGUAGAUGAAGAAUUCAAACAUCUGCUUAGUGAAUUAGUUAUGCAGGUGCCAGCUUCUGUGACUGAAACGGUUUGCAAAGGUUCCUCUGUUGCAGCUCAGGGCACUGAAAUCUGCAACUUAAGACUCACUAGUAGAAUUUCUAAGUUCAGAUUCCCUCUGGAUCUGGUUGGUAGUAAGCAGAAGAACAUGUAUUCUGCACUCACUUUAUAUGUUACAGUCACUUUAUCUUCCACUUGUUGUAGAAGCCCAAUAGGGGCUACACCCAAACACCCGUUAAAAGCCCAAACCAAUUGAGCCUAGAGGAUGAGUGCCAAAGCCCAAUGAAAUCUCAAGGCAAGGUGUUUGUACCUUGCAUUUGAUCCACUGAGCUUUAAAAGCAAAGGUGAGGCCAUUGAGCUAUAUGUCAUGCUAAAGUAAUAGCGUUGUAAAAUUAAAUACAUAGCAAGAUUAAUGGUUUUUCUUCAAAAAAAUUUUAUGUGAAUAUUUACGUUCAUGCUUAUUUUUAUAAUAAUAAUUAUCAAAUUAAUAUAAUAAUUUUAAAAUAAUAAAAUACAAAAAAUAAAGAGAUAAAAUUAAAUACUAUGAUUUUUUUUAUCUUAAACAUAUCUUUAUGUUUAAAUAUUAUACAUGUUCUAUUUAAUAAGGUUUAAAAUAUUAAUAUAUUUAUAUUUAUCUUUAUAAUUUAAUUUGGUAUGUGUAAUAUAAAAUUGAAAUAUUAUUAAAAUUUGUAAUUAUAUAUUUUAAAUUUCUUAUAAAUUUUUUUUGUACAAUAUAUAAAUUAUAUAAUUAUUACUUUACCGGUUUGAUCAUGGUUGAACCACUGAUCUGACCAGUGAAUCGUGAAUGUAACAACCUACAUCCAAUCUCAAAGAGGCUCUCACAACUUUAAAACAUAUCUACAAAUUAAGAACUCAUACAUAUAUAGCAUCAAGAUAGCAUCAAGAUAGGGGAGAAAGUUCUUAACACUAUAUAAGUAUAAACUCUUCUUAACAGCGAAGCUUUAAAAAUUUUUGCGAAACAUUAACUUGAAUGCUAGACAGUGGCAAACCUUAGUGGGAGCUUUCAAAAUUUUUAAGAGAGAGAAUCAUGGUUUAAAUAUUGGUAAAUAUGGAAUAUUUGUACCUACAUUUUACGGAUAUAUUGGAAAUAUCGAUGAAUAUUUUGACAAAAAUAUUGGUAAGACAAAAAUUAUUCAAAAUUUAUAAAAAUAUUUAGAAAAAUUUUAAAAAUGAUAAAAUAAAUAAAAAUACAUAUGUUAAAGUUUUUUUCUAAAAAUAAUUGACAUAGAUAUGAUCAAAUAGAAAAAUAUCGAUAAGUAAGGAUAAAUCAAUCUUAAUAAUUUAUUAUUUAUCCAAUCAAAUUAAUUUUAAUUUAUAAAAUAUUAGAAUUUCAUUAUUUUUGAAUAAAUUUAUAUUUUUAAUAUUUUAAACACAUGCGAAAAUAUCAUCAAUGGAUACUUUUUAAAUAACAAUGAAAAGUUCUUACAAAAAAUAUAUCUUAAUAAUAAAAUAUCAAAGACAUACAUAUUAUUUGGGAAAAGAAAUUUAAAACACUUUCCAACAUAUAAAGUGCUUUAUUCAACCAAUAGUAACAAAGACAAGCUUUGACUUGGAUUGAAAGCCUGGCCAAGUCAAAAAUUGAAACCUUAUCCUCUUGAUGCUGUGUCUUGGACAAAUUCUAGGAAAAACCUACAUUAGAGCAAUUUUAGUAUUUUUUUAAACUUGUGUAUAGAAGUCUUCCUUUCAUCUGUCAGAAGCGUCAAUGGAGACCCAUCUUUUCUUUGCCUUCUUUUGUGCCUGGAUUUGUCUCUCAGUUCCCUUGGAGUCUUGUAUUGCAGCUAAUUCCAUAAGGAUUGACCAACCCAUAGGCGAUGGUGAGUCUUUAGUUUCCUCAGGCCAAAGCUUUGAACUAGGCUUCUUCUCUCCUGGCAGCUCCAAAAACAGGUACUUAGGAAUAUGGUACAAGAAUACACCCCGGACAGUUGUAUGGGUUGCAAACAGAAACAACCCGAUCGCAGAUUUGUAUGGAGUUUUAACCAUCUUCAACAAUGGCACACUUGUUCUUCUCAACUAGUCAAAGAGUGUAAUCUGGUUGAUUUGUUCCCAAUUUGUGUCUCAGUUGACUCAUGUCCUCUCAAUGGUCCCUGACAGUGGUGCCAUUUGAUUCGUGUCCAGGUGGUGUCCCUUGAUUGUGGUCCUCAGAAGGGAGUAAUCAACAAAAUUUAUAACCUAUUACACCAUGUACUAGGAUAGCCUUAGCUAGCAUAGCAUAGUGGCUCUAGGGUCGUUCACUGGGAUGGGUUUUCACUUCACAAUUGAUAUUAAUUCAAAGUUGAAUUGGUGCCUUUUCAUUUCAAGGUUAGCUUUAAAAGAAAACAUAAAGAUGUUUAAAUGAAAAAGGUUUGGUUUUAAACUAACCAAAAAUAGUAACUGAUUUUACUUACAAAGAAAAGUGUUUCUUGGAGUUUAGAUCACUAGGUUCAGGUUCCUCAUACAAAAAGGAGAGUUCCGGUUACUUGUUUCUUUUCCUCGCAUUAGAGAAUUAACAUAUAGUUAAUUCUCUAACCGGUGUGGUACAGAUGCUUCCCUUUAAUGGGUUCAAACACUAAAUCCCUCUCACUGAUGCACCUUGCAAUGGCUCGUGCCUCUCACCUAGCAUUUGCCAUUCAAGGUGAUCCUUAACCUUGGAUUAUCCGUCAAAAGCUCGCAAGAGAUAACUAAUGGAUGUCUCCUUGGAGUCCAAAAGCUUACCAAGUGUUGGCUAUUCUAGAAAAUCCUACCUCUAAACCACCUCCCAAAGGCUCGCAAGAGAUAAACAAGUGCAUCUCAAUGAACGGAGACCACUUGCCUUAUCAAGUGUUGGCCCAGGUGAGUUAAAGGCGUUUUAAGUUAACUAAAAAGAUAAAAACCAUUAACGAGUCACACUUUCUCUUCAUUAAAAACUAAAACAACAAAACUUCCAAUUUCUGCAUGAGGAAACUUACCCGACUUUCUUCACUCCAAGAGACGAAGAGCCUAGCCUCUCAUCAUUUGAGAAAAAAUCCUCAGAGUUUGAUUGGCUAGAAAGAAAACUAACGAGAAAACAAAAAUAUGAAGGAAAAACAGAGCAAGUGCCCUGUUCGUCGAUUCCAUAUAUAUGAUAUAUAUAUUAUAUAUUUUCUUUAUAUUGGUUCAAAGAUAUAUAUAGAGAAUAUAUUUUCUAAGAAAUAUCCCAAUAAUAUCUUUGACUGAUUACAAGGAGAAAAUAGAAAUUUACACAAAAUAUCUUGAGAGAAAAAAUCUAACUUAGUCAGUGGCAAAUAUCAAGAAGCUUCAGGAGAACACCACGGCACUGUAUACUGAGAGAAAAACUCUCCGGGUAAGCGCUAUCAGAGGAUCCGGAUAUGUCUGACUGGAGAAGUUGAAACGUCUUCCUCUCCCAUCCAGCGUCAGGCUCCGGAUGUGAAAUAUCCCGCGCCGCAAGGCUAUCCGGAUCAACUCCAUCAGGAUUCCCCCGGGUGGAAGGAGCUAUGUCGCAAGGGGGACCGUCUGCGUGUGCAAGGUGUAGGGACCCCUCUCCCAGAUGACACGGAGCACGCAAGGCUAUCCGGAUCAACUCCAUCCGGAUUCCCCAAGAGGACAUGUGGCGCGCUUCCCUAUUCGGACUCCCUCAGGGAGAAGCACAUGACACUCGUGAACAUCACACCCGGACGAUAGCAUAUCCUAUCCGGAUGUGUUGUCCAGAUCAUUGACUUAAUGUGAGCAAGCCUUGCUACGUCAUUCAAAUAGCCUGCCACAGACCAUGUUCUGUCGCCAUCCUGUCCGGACACCCUGUCCGGACAUCUUUACCAUGGAUUUCAAAGAACUCUCCUUAAUCUCGGAUUGCUUUGGUGAUCAAAAAGCUAUCAAAACACCAAAACUUAACACAAUUUGAUUAGAAUUGAUUGCAAGGGUCCUUAAUAUGUUAAUUGGGUUAAAAGGUGAUAACUACUACUCAAAAGUGUUUAAAAGAGUUAAUUACAAGCUAUGAAAUAACACUUUUUGAGUAGUAAUCACUGGUCUCUCAAUUUGUCAAAGGUACCAGAAAAUCCAGUUGCACAGCUCCUGGAGACUGGAAAUCUUGUUCUUAGGGAUAGUGGUAAAGAAAGUUUUGAAACCUAUAUAUGGCAGAGCUUUGAUGAUCCAUCAGACACAAUGUUGCCAGGCAUGAAGGUGGGAUGGAACUUAAAGACUGGUCUACAACGAAAAUUGACAUCAUGGAAAAGUGCUGAUGACCCAUCUCCUGGAGGCUUCUCUUAUAGAAUUGAUAUUAAUGUGCUGCCUUACAUGGUUCUUGGUGUGGGAGUAGGCAAAAAAGUCCGUUCCGGGCCAUGGAAUGGACUUGAAUUCAAUGGUUUGAAUGCGUUGGAUAACUCGGUUUACAAAGCAGUUUUUGUUGCCAACAACGAUGAGGUAUAUGCCCUCUAUGAGUCUAACAACAAUAAGAUCAUUUCAAGACUAACAUUGAACCAUUCAGGUUUCCUCCAGCGUCUGGUAUUAAAAAAAGGGAGCUCUGAAUGGGAUGAAUUGUACUCAAUUCCCAGUGAACUUUGUGAAAAUUAUGGCCAUUGUGGUGCUAAUGGUAUCUACAGAAUUGGCAAGCUGCAGAUUUGUGAGUGUUUGACAGGUUUCACAAUAUCAUGUUAUGCCAUUUGGUCUUUGUAAUGCCCCAUCCACUUUUCAAGCCAUCAUGAAUUCCAUAUUUCGCCCUCACCUCUGACAAUUCAUUCUAGUAUUCUUUGAUGAUAUUUUAAUUUAUAGCCCCAAUUGGAACAUGCAACUUGAACAUGUUAAGCAAGCUUUUGAAAUUUUGAGGCAUCACACAUUUUUUUUAAAACUCAAAAAACGUGCCUUUAGCCAACAAGAAUUAGAAUACUUGGGGCAUAUUGUCACUGCUCAUGGGGUCAAAGUGGACCAAAAUAAAAUAUAGGCCAUGCUUGAUUGGCCUCAUCCUACUAAUGUUUCAAAGUUACGUGGGUUCUUAGGCCUUACAAGUUACUAUCGGAAGUUUGUUCGCAAUUAUGGCAUCUUGGCUGGCCCACUCACUAAUCACUUGAAGAAAGGCCAAUUUGGGUGGACUGCAGAAGCUAAGACCUCCUUCAAGCUCCUUCAACAAGCUAUGACUACCACUCCCACCCUUGCCAUGCCAAAUUUUCAGGAACCAUUCACUAUUGAAUCUAACGUUUCCGGGGAUGGGAUUGACACUAUACUCACCUAACAAGACAAGACCAUUGCCUUCAUGAGUCGAGCCUUAGGAGUCUCCAAAUUAUCCUGGUCUACAUAUGCCAAAGAGAUGCUUGCCAUCAUUCACGCCUUGGCACCCUUAUCUUCUCGGGUAGAAAUUCUACAUCCAAACUGACCAGUGGAGCCUCAAGUACUUACUUGAGCAGCGUGUGGUAACACCAGAGUAGAAGAAAUGGGUUGCAAAGCUACUUGGCUAUGAUUACGAGAUACUAUAUAAACUUGGCCGCGAAAACUCAACCGCCGAUGCCCUUUCCAGUGUGCCAGGCUCCCCAACUCUUAAUGCUUUAUUUGUUUUGCAGGUUAAAAUAUGGGAGGAAAUCAAAACAGCCUUGGCAGACAAUGCUUACAUGGCCUGCAUUAGCAAGCUCACUACUAUCAAACCUGGCCUUUCCUACACCAACCGUCACGGGUUGAUCUUCUACAAAAAUCGAGUGGUGGUGUCCCCUCAAUCCCAUAUCCCGAAUCAGUUACUACAUGAGUUCCAUGACUCUCCUUUUGGUGGCCACUUCGGAGUGCUGCGCACAUAUAAACGUAUCACUCAACAGUUUUAUUGGCCCUCAAUGUAUCGCAUGGUGAAUGAGUAUGUCUCCUCUUGUGAUGUUUGUCAACGAGCUAAGGCAUCCACCUUGUCCCAUACUGGUCUCUUACAGCCGUUGCCCAUUCCUUGUCAAGUAUGGGACGACAUCACCAUGGAUUUCAUCAAAGGACUGCCUCCAUCCCAAGGCAAGAACACAAUAUUUGUGGUCGUCGAUCACCUUAGCAAAUCAGCUCACUUCUUGGCCUUAACUUGCCCUUUUUCUACCAAGAUGGUAGUAGAAAAAUUUGUUGAGGGUGUCUUAAAAUUACACGGCAUGCCUAGAUCAAUCAUCAGUGACCGUGAUCCAAUUUUCAUAAGCAACUUUUGGCGUGAAUUCUUUAAAUUGUCCAACACACAAUUAAAGAUGAGCUCUGCAUACCAUCUCCAAACUAACGGGCAGAUCGAAGUCAUCAAUCGCUAUGUCAAGCAAUAUCUAUGCUGUCUGGUUCACCAGCAACCACAAAAAGGGUACUCCCUUCUUCCUUGGGCAGAGUUUUAGUACAAUACGACUUACCAUGUUUCAAUCGGCAUGUCACCUUUUCAAGCUUUGUAUGGUUGCCCUCCCCCCAUGAUUCCACACUAUUAGUUGGGUUCUUCUCCAGUUAAUGAGGUCGACCAAAACUUGGCCUCACGCAAUGAUCUUCUCAAUCAGCUCAAACUCAACUUACAUCAAGCUUCCAAUUGGAUGAAACAAAUCGCCGAUUCAAAAAGGCGGGACAUCGAAUUCAAUGAAGGUGGCCUUGUUUUCCUUAAACUGCAUCCUUAUCGCCGACAAAUAGUGUUCAAAAGAGCAUCUUAGAAACUUGCUCACCGGUUUUAUGGGCCCUUUCCAAUUGAGAAACGCAUUGGCAAGGUAGCAUAUCAACUCCAACUUCCUGCGGGGUCUUGCAUCAAUAUGGUAUUCCAUGUUUCUUUGUUAAAAAAGAAGAUUGGUGAUUCAAGUGCAAGUUGUCCUACUUUGCCACCUCUCACCGAUGAUGGUACCCUCAUCAUCGAACCUGCAGAAAUCAUAGACACUCGUUGGCUUAAAAAAAGGGGGAAAUUUUUUGAAGAGUGCUUGGUCAAAUGGAAACACCUUUUCGUUGAAGAUGCUACUUGGGAGAAUGCAGCAGAGUUGCAAGAUUGGUUCCAUGACUUGAACCUUAGGGACAAGGUUCCAAUAAAAGUGGGGGGUUGUGGACCCGCAUUUAUCACGUGCGCUCCCACUCGAUCGGCGAUACUCGCUUUUUAUUCGUGAAAAUUUAAUUUUAGAAAAGUUGGAGUCGCCACUUAUUUUAUUUUAUUUUAAAAGGGAAAAUAAAACAAGAAAGAAAACCCUAAAAAGUGACUCCAUAAUUUUUGGAAAAAAGGCAUGCCUUUGAAAACCUGAGUCUAGGUCCGGGGAUCAGGUUACCUAUUAGGAAGGUACCUUUAAAAGGUAGCACCCCUCUAAGCCCUAUAGAGGUCUCUACUAACUAAGUUGAGGGAAAUGUGGCAAUUAAUCGAUUAAUUAUAGAUACCUAAGUAAGCUUGGUGAUUUUAAAAUAACAUGUUAACAAGAAAAUCAAUCACAAUCAUAUAGAAGAUUCAGGGUGCGUACCUGAACCACUUCUUAAGCGCUAUCAUAAAACAUCAAUUGUUAGUUUAGAUAAUAUAUCACUCAGCAUGCAUUUUAUCAUGAAUGAUCAAACAACAUAACAAAUAUCAAGACAUCCCAAGCAUUCUCAAACAUAGGUGUAAUUUACAAUGACAAUCAUAUUUAUAGAAUUUAGAAAGUAUGUGACAGGGGACGUACCUGGAUAACAUAGAUAACUUACAAUGCGCUUCCAUAAGACAUGAGGGGUUAGAUAAUAAAUAAUAAAAUAUAGAAAUCCUAGCAUGCUCGUUAUCUAAUUAGCAUAGCAGAAAUUAUCAAAGUAUAUGAAAACACUAAUUAUCACACUCAUCUUGUAUACAAUUCCUAAAAAAAGAUAGACAUAAUUUCAACAAGUGACAAAAGUGGCAACAAAAAUAAUUUUUGAAAAGAUUUUCUUAUGUAGGGGUUUCACCAAUUCCCCAAUUGAUAUACACGAAUUUAGCCUAGAAUUAUCCCAUUUAUUUGGGACCACAAGCUUUGAUUCGUGUUUUAUUCAAAACUGCAAUUUUUUUUUUUUUUUGAAAUUCGAGGAAGAUGUGAACCGAUCAAAACAUGGUUGCACAUUAUUUAAGAAAAUGAGAUUUUGAUUUUAAGAAUCCUAAAGGAAUUAUUGAAAUGAAUUUUUAAAGGGAAUGAGAUUUUGAUUCUGAGAACUCUAAAUGAAUUUUUGAAAUGGUUUUUUAAGGAAAUGAGAUUUUGAGAAUAUUGUUAUGUUUUAAAGAUAAAAGAAGUUAAUUUGAAAACAAUAAAAUGUAUGAAUCAAAAUACCAAGCAAAGGAAAAAAGAACAAAAUCACAAAGUAGAAUUUUUGACAACCGAUAAAAUUGAAGUGGUGGGAAUGGAGGCCAAUCUUCACUAUUUUCUGAUAGCCUCUAAAAAUUGAUUUUGACAAAGGAUGACCAAAGUGAUAAACCAAAACCUUAGAUCUUACAAGCACUGAAACUUUAAAAACAUUUAAUCUUAAGAUAAACUUAAUCAAGCACUAAAUAUUAAGUGACCUUUAAAACAGUACAAGCGAUACGUAUUAACUAAUAUUGACAAUUUUGAGUCAUAAAUCUAAUCGGCUAACUAAACAAUUGAAUAAAAGAAAACAAACACAUAAAAUAAAUAAAAUUAGUCAAAAACUGAAAUGAACUAUUUUUAAACACAAAAUGACAACAUGGGAAUAGAUUAAACUAAUAGCCUACAAUUCGAAAGCAUAGAAUUAAUGGAAAAAUGGAAUAAAAAAAAUCUUAACAUAAACUAAACAAUAUGAAACCAACCAAAUUAAUUAAAACUCUAAAAAAAUAUCAACUAAAACAGGAUCAAUCAAAACUAAAAUAACUAUUUAUUUUUAUUUAUUUAUUUUAUUUUUUAUUUUUUUAAAAUUUUAAAACAUGAAUAUAUCAACGCGGAAUGAAAUAAAUUAACCAACUUAAAUUCUAAAACUAAUAAACUAAAAGGAUGAAUCAUGAAUUAAAUUUAACAACCUUUAGAUAUGAAAAGAGUGACAUGGAAGCAAUUGAACUAAUAAACUGAAUUUUAAUAACAUUUAAACUAAAAGAUAAAUUAAAACUAAACUAAAAGAAAUUAUGAAUUUCCUAAUUGAGAACAAAAAUAAUGCCAAUCAAAAUUCUAAAUUUUUAACCAUUAUCACACAUUAUCCAAACUCUAAAAAAUCCUAACUUUUCCAUUAUCAACAAAAUUGCCCAAACCAAUACUUAAAAAUAAUAAUAAUAACAAUAAUAAUAAUAAUAAUAAUAAUAAUAAUAAUAAUAAUAAUAAUAAUAAUAAGUAAAUAAAAAAAUCUAAUUUGUCGAACUAAGAAAAUAAAUUGUAACUACAUUAAACAUAAAUCAUAAUUUUCAAGCAAGAAUAAUAAAUCAGUAAUAAUUAAUUUAGUUAGUUAAGAAAAAUUAAAAAUUAACAUCUAAGCUAAAUAUGAAUUUACAAUAAAAUAAAAAUUUUAAAUGCAUAGGCCGAAUGGGAAUAAUACAAAACUAACUUUAACAAAUUAAAAACAUGAAUACAUUGACAUUGGGAAUGAGUAACUAAAUAUAUAAAAUUCUGAAAUAAUUACGAAUGGCAUUGAAUAGUCAUGAAUCAAAAUUCAAAUAGGAAGAAUUAAUUUACCUUUCUCAAAGACGCGUGGGCUACUCUCCAACAAAAGUGACAGUAUGAUUUUUUUUAUUUAAGAAAGUCAAUUCUAUGAUGCAUGGUGUGAUAGUUAUGGAUCAAUCAAGACUAAAAGAACUAAUAAUUUAAGGAACAAAAUAAAUUAAUAUGGAUAUUCAAAAUUAAUAACAAAUAAUUUUAUGAAGUGCACACACCGGGUAAUCUAAAUUAAUAAUAAUAAUAAUAAUAAUAAUAAAAUAAAAUAAAAUAAAGACCUCAAAAAUCUUAAAUUAAACAGAAACAAAUUUAAUGGCUUGCAAACAUGCAUAUAUUCACGUAAGAUUAAUUAAACUAGAAAAUAAAAAGAACUCAAAAGACAUAACGGGAAUAAUACAAAACUAAAUUUAACAAAUUAAAAAUGUGAAUAUAUUGAUAUUGGAAAUAAAUAACUAAAUAAAUAAAAUUCUGAAAUAAAUUGAGUUGAAUAGUCAUGAAUCCAAAUUAAAACAGGAAGAAUUAAUUUACCUUGGUCAAAGACGCGUGGGCUACUUUUGUUAGUGACAGUAGGAUUUUUAAAAUCAAUUCCACCUGGUGUGGUGGAUACCAUGCACUGCAAAUACUUGCAGUCACCAAAACAAUGCGUAUUAGUGGAGAGAAAUCUUCCUUGACAGUGUGUUGCCCUUGAGAGAAUCUGGUGGUCUCCUUUAUGUCCUCCAAGCAGCAACCCCUUAAAUUGAAUGACAUUUUCUAUGGCCACGUGAUCCCCUUUGGUGCAGCCCGCGCAUGGAGUCCUUCUUGGUGGCUGGUUUCUGGGCAAAAUCUGGCGAGCUCCUUUCAAAGUCCAGAAUGCGUGGAUGUUCUCGAUGAGAAACCCACGUUUGGUGAAGACGAAGGUAAUCCGCGUCUUGACCGGAGAGAAGACUUCUUGGACGAUAUAUUUUUUUUAAAACGAUAGCUCCUAAUAGUUCACGAAAACACGAUCUGAUCCGGCUGCUAUCGCGCCCUUCAAGGUACAGUCGUGCUUCUCCGAAGCUUUUCCAGUGCGGCUGCCUCCUUUCCCUUCCUUCUCAAUGGUGCUCCUCCUCUAAAAAACUAGCCCCACUUCAUCACCCAAUAUGCUAUCUUUCCUUGCACAGCCUAACCUUCCAAAAACCAGCCUUCCCCAUACCUUUUCCAUGCACGUUCAGAAUUUUCCUUUUUUUUAGACCUAGCCCUCAUUUCGUCCACGUACAUGCUAAGUCUUUUCUUUUUCCUUUUCACUUGCCAAAACCACUUUGGUAAUUUUCCCUACAACCGGCUUCAUUCAUCCACCAAUCCGUGUGUCAUUCUCAUUCCUUUCUAAAAAAUUCUGAUCCUUCUUUGUAUCUUCCCCUAAAAACCAUCCUUAUUCAUCCAUUAUUUAUAUUCCGCUUCCACGCCCCGAAUCCACCUUUCCAAAAAACAGUGUGGUCCCUUUCCAUGAGCAUCUUUUGCACACCUUCCCAUUGACUCCACCUACAUGGAAGAAUAACAAGAAAAAAAUUCCAGAAAAGAAAGCAAGAAUCCAUGAAGUCAAAACCAUUCCCGUCAUUCAAAUUCAACAUUCCUUUCAUUAAAAUUUCAAGAAGUCCUUAAAUCCCAAAUAGGAAAAUAUCAAUACAUAGAUAAGAGGAUACAUACCUAAAAAUAAAUAAAUAAAUAAAUAAAUAAAUGUUAGAUAUAUUUAAUAAUAAUAAUAAAAAGAAUUAAACUAAUGCAACAUAUAAUAAUAGUCGAAGUGUCAAACUCAAGCCACCAAUAAUAAUAAUAAUAAUAAUAAUAAUAAUAAUAAUAAUAAUAAUAAUAAUACUAAUAAUAAUAAUAAAAACUCAUUUCAUGCAAUUAUAAAAUAAAAUAAUUAACAAAAAAAAUACAAAUAAUAAUAAUGAUGAAAUAAUAUAAAUAUAUCAAAACUCACUUAAUCCUAAAAGCAAUCAAUAAAAUAAAUAAAUAAAUGAAAACAAAUCUAAGUGAAACUAAACCUUGAAAAGUGUUUAAGUGGGCCUAAGGCAGUGCCUAAUGGGCCAAGUGCGUUUAAUGGGCCUAAGGUGCACUAAGUGAACCUAAGGUGUCUAAAUGGGCCUAGGGUGAUGUCUAAUGGGCCAAGUGUCUAAGUGAGCCUAAGGUGCCUAAGUGGGCCUAAAGUGUCUAAAUGGACCUAGGGCGAUGCCUAAUGGGCCAAGUGUGGUGCCUAAAUGGGCCCAAGGUGCCUAAGGUGGCUAUGUGAGCCUAAGUCUAAAUUAGGGCUGCCAAGAGUCACAACGGGGUUAAAUGAACCCCUCAACCAAAGUCCCCAAGGUGGCUUAGAAAAGAUGGGCUACACGAGUAUUCAUGGGCCACCAGGGAAUUGCUAUAAACGACAUGUGCGAGGAAGACAAAAUAGAGGGUCUACAGGGGUAUUGAUAAACCACGAAGAUCUCAGCGUGUUUCUUGGCCAAAUCAGAAAUAUUUGGAUUGAGUCUUGAGCUGCAACGCUUGGAGAAGAAGUUUGGUUGUGUUAGAGUCUUUCUUUCAGUUGGAGUCCUAUUAUUCUGCUAGUCUGUUAUUUCUGCUUCCAUGAUUUAGUUUCUAUUUGUGCACAACAGUUGUGGCUGUAAGUUUAGGAAGAGUGGUUAGAAAAUAUAUGUAUUUAAACUCUUUCAAUGAAUAAAAAGGAUAUUGAGCAUAUGCUAAAAUCAACAGAAGGCUUUGACCUAUGAGAGAGACCCUAAAGUGGUCAUAUAUCCUUAUGGAUUAGGUCACCGUUAAUGGAGGCUAGUAACAAUAGGUAUUCUUAAUAGAGGCACCAUGAUAUCUCAUGGGAUUGAGACAGUGUGUCCCUUUGGGUGAUCCAAAGGACAUGUGAUUAUGAAAUUUAUGGCCACAACAAUUUCUUUUGUGGAAUUUAACUUAUGCUCCUUAGAGUUGGAGCUAGAGCAUGUUAGUUAAUCAUAUAAUAAGUGGGAUCUAUAACUCAAGGAUUGGAGAUGUAAUCUUGAUCGGUGAUAACACUACCUUGUUAGAUAAUGAACACCAGUUCAUGGGGAGUUUAUAUGCAAUGGAUAAUAGGAUGUCGUGGACCUGAACUUUGUCUCAUUGUUAUGUACAUAUGGUAUUGGAGUGUAGUUGAUUCUCUUUAAUGGAACGUUGAAUCAACUUUAAAAUUGGAUUUUGAUAGAGCAAAUACUCCAAUGGGUCCUAGUGGUUCUCACUUUAAGCUAAUAUACUAUGUGACACAUUUUAUGAGGGUUGGAUUGACUCUAGGUUGAUUCUUGUGCAUAAGAGCAUUUUGGUAAUUACACAAGGUUGCAUAGGGGAUAAUGAACAAGGUAUUUGGUUUGGGCUAAUUGAUCAAUUAGAUGACCCUAUGUAGUUAAUUAAUCAAUUAUGAGCCAUUUUGGGCUAGACUAAGUGACCCAAGCCUUGAUGGGCUUAAGUCACUUAAGCAUAAUCGACAAGCCUAUAAAUACCCCUUUAUAGGUUAGCGUUUCCUAAUGAAUUUCAAUGAGAGUUGUUUUCCACCUCUAGAGAAAGACAGAGAGAAAAUAAUAGCCUCAUCCAUUUUGUUGCCCAUACUUUAGAGUGCCAAGAUUGUGGUUCAAGUCAUCGGGUGGAGGAUCUUAGGUGUACGAGACCUCCUUAGAUGAGAGGCUACAACACUUGGACAUGCGUAGGGCACGUGCACAAGACGUGCAUAGACCAUGUGAAUAGGAAUUGCACGAGACAUGCACAUGGGUAGUAGCAUGAGGAGAGAGACUCUCCAGUUUUUCCAAGUAUGUUCUUCAUCGGAUGGAUUUUGAUCUAGGAACAUCUAAAUCACAUGUUUGAGUUUCAAAUCUCUAGAUCUAUAGUUAUUAAUGGUUUUCAUUGCUAAUUUAUUCCAUUGUGAUAGAUUUACAAAUGCCUAGGGAUAGAUGCAUUCACCCUAUGAGAUCCAAGGCAUAGGAACGAAGUAUUAAUCUAGGGUUCCCAAGUGAUGACAAUAGUAAGAUAUCAAGAUUGAACCUAACACUAAUUAAACAUCUGGUAUUUAGACCUAGGUCAUAUUAAUCUAAAUAGGAUCCAAAGAUUGUAAAGUCUGGACUCUUUGAUUCCGAAAGAUCUUCUAGUUUAUGAAUCCUAUAUAGAUGGUAAAAUGAUCAAGAGGACUAGAGGUAAGGAAUAUUUGGAGUUAGUGCAUACUAAUAUGUAUGGAACUUUUAGUGUCUAUGCAUGGAGAGGGUAUGGGUAUUUCAUCACUUUUAGUAAUGAUUACUUUAGGUUUGGAUAUGUACAUAGGAAAUCUGAUGUCUUGGAUACAUUCAUUGAAUUUAAGGCGAGAUCAAAUAACCUAUUGGGUAUACAUACCAAGUCAUUUCAAUUAUAUCAAGUUGAUAUGUUUGGUAAGUUUGAUUCUUUUUGUUAGAGCAUAAGAUUAUUUUCUAGUUAUGUUCAUCAAGGUCUCUAUUGCAAAAUGAAUAAGUGGAAAGAAGAUAUCAAACUUGGAUGGACAUAGUAAGAUUGUGGAUAGGUUUUUCAUAUUUUCUCAAAUUCUUUUGGGGAUAUGUCUUAUAGAUUGUGUAAUUACUUUUUUUUUUUCCUAAGAGGUGUAUUAGUUUAUAGGAUAUCUAAGAGGAUUUUUGGGUUAUCACCUUUAUAGUCAAUCAUUAAAAGAUAUUUGUUAACAUAAAUGUCCCAUUUUUCAUGAAGAUUAUAUGAUAAGGAAGAAGGCAUAAAGUGAUAUAGAUUGCAGGAUAUAUUAGAAGAUAGUCCCACAUUGCAUAGGAUACUACGGAUCCAAAGGGUUAAAGACAUACCAUUCCUAUGAUUUCUAGUACACCAGUACCUCAUCAUAGUGGGAAGUUUAUAUCCCACAGAUAAUGAUGAAGCGGUGAGCAAUGUUUAUGCUCACUUAAGGCAAGGACGUGUGAUCAUGAAAUCUAUGAGCCCAUAGUAAUUCCUUUAGUGAAAUUUGAGAUAUGCUCUUUGUGAGUUAGAGUAUGUUAUUUAAUCACAAAAUAAGAUGAUCUAUGACUCAAAGAUUGUAGAGGUAGUCUUGAAAGGCUGAUAACUUUCACCUUGUUAGACUAUGAACAACCAAUUCAUGGGAAGGCUGUAUACAAUAGAUAGCAAGUCACGAACUUGAGCACUUGGUGUCUCGCUGUAAUAUACAUAGAGUUCCAAAGUACAAUUAACUCUCUAUAGUAGGAUAUUGGAUUCUAAGGGAUCUAGUAUUGUCCUAUGGGUUCCAUUGGUCUCUACUAAAAGCUCAUCUUCCUUGAUAGCAUGGUUUAUGAGAGUUGGAUGGGUUUUUAGUUCACUUGUGUGCAUAAAGGCAUUUUGGUAAUUGCGCAAGGUUACACAGAGGUAACUGUGCAGUAUCUUGGAACUUGGCUAAUUGAUUAAUUGGAGCCUUAUUUUGUUAAUUAAUCAAUUAGCAACCUUUUUGGGCUAAAUUAAGUGACCCACACCCAUAAUGGGCCCAAGUCACUUAAGCAUAGUAGGAAACCUAUAAAUACCUUUCGCAAGGGUUUGGGUUUCUAAUUCAAUCUUGUCAUUCUCUCCCUAUAGUCCAAAGAGAGAACCCUAGUCUUCAACCUUGAGAUUUCCACCAUCUUAGUGCCUAGACUCAAGAAGGAGUCAUCGAGUGGAUGAUUAUGGGUUUAUAAGAUCUUUCUUAAAUUUGGAGCUUUCUACAUUAACAAGAAUUGAUUUGGGAACAUCCAAAUAAUAUGUAUAACACUUUUCUCUAGAUCUAUGACAUGUUUUUGUUUUUUAAAUACCAAAGUUUUCAACUAUGCUUAGAUCUAGAAAGCAUAAGAUAGGAUUACAUGCACCCUAAUAAUCCAAGGCCUAGGAAUAGAGUGAUCUAAGGUUUCCUAACAAAUAUAACCCAAUAAGUAAGAAUGAUUUAUAGGAACUAAAAUUUCUUUCAAAAAGAAAAGAAGUUUAUUGGAGUAAGAUAGGUAUACAAGAGAAGGAAAAAUGCAAAAUGAGUAGAAAAAUACAAAGCAACAUUGGUGCAAAGGAUUAUAAGCAAGAAUAAUGCACCAAUAAGAUGAGGGUAUUUGGUCUCAUUGCUCUUUUAGUAACUAUGAGAUUAAUAAUCUCUUUAAUAGCUCAAAAUAGUUGAAAAUUUUCAAAUGGAUGUGAAAUCCAAUUUUUUGAAUUGACAUCUUGAAGAAGAAGUGUAUGUAGAACAAACCAUAGUUGGUAUAUAUAUAUAUAUGGGCAUGAGAAUAAAGUUCCAAAAUUGAAAAUAACCUUGUAUGGAAUAAAACAAACACAAAGAGCAUGGAAUAAUAGAAUUGACCAAUAUUUUCACGAUAAUAAUUUUGUUUGAUACCUUUAUGAACAUGCUCUCUGCAUAAAAGUGAAUGAAAAAAGUGAUAUAUUACUUGUUUGUUUGGAUGUGAAUUGUUUGAUCUUUAUUGGAACAAAUCCAAUCAUGUUUAGUGAGUUCAAAGAAGUAAUAGGAUAAAAGUUUGAGAUGAUUGGAUUAGUCUCAUAUCAUACUCUCUUGGCAUAGACUUGAAGCAAAUUGAAAAGAGUACUUUUCAUUUCUCAAGAAGACCAUGCAAAAUAAAUUUUUAGAAAGUUUAACUUGAAUAUGUGUAAUAUGGUAAACACAAUAAUAUAAUGCAAAGCUAAAUUAUCAAAGACAUGUAGAAGGAGAAAAAGUGGAUUCAACAUAACAUAAAAUCUUAGUUGGAACCGUACACUAUUUGACUCAUACAAGUUCAAACAUUCUCUUUGGAGUUGGAUUUGUCCAUCAUUAUAUGGAAGCACUAAUGGUUAUUUACACUAAGACCUCCUAGUGAAUUUUUCACUACAUCAACGACACAUUUGAUUAUGACUUAUAUUAUUCACCUUUAACAAUUUUAGACUUGUUGGAUAUAAUGAUAGUAAUUAAGGUGGAGACUUGGAUGAUAUAGAGAGAACCAAUAGCUUUAUAUUCCUCAUGGGAGAGACACCAUGUUCGCUUGGACUUCAAAGAAGCAACCUAUUGUGAAACUUUCAACCUAUGAAGUGGAAUUUGUGAAAAUGUUUACAAAAUCUCAUAAUCAAAUUGUGAAAAUGUUUACAAAGUCUCUCAAGUUUAAUGAUUUUAGAAUGCUAAGGAUGCUACUUUUACAAAUCAAGUUGAAGGCAUGAGUGAAAAUGUUGACAAAGUUUAAAAUUUUUAGAAAACUAAGGAUGCUAUUUUUACAAACCAAGUUGAAGGGAGGAUGUUAGUUAAACUGGAUUUAGGAAGUUUCUAAAAAAUUAGAAUUUGAGUUAGAUUCUAAAAUGCUUGAUUUAGUUUGUAUAUUUUGUUAUUACAAGAUUUUAUAUUUUACCAUUAUGAGUAUCUAUUUUUUUUUAGGUGUUAAUAUCUAUAAAUAAGAUGUUACGUAAUAGUUGAACAAGAGUGGUGGAAGACAAUAAAUUUUUUCUUAGUCAUCUCAAUUAUUUAAAUAUCUCCCUUUACAUAUGUAAUUACUUGUGUAUUUUUUUCAACCAUAUUACUGCAACAUAUGUGAAUCUGCUGGUUGGUCUAUGAAAAUUUAUAUCAGUUGUUCAACCUGUUAAAUUCUGUUAGGUUUGUGUAACGGUAUUUAGAUCAUAGCAUCUUUCCCUAAGCCCGCAUUUUUCUAAAUAUAUAAUUAAAAUUGUUGUGCUUGCAAUUUUAAUGAAAUCUAGCAUUGGAUACUUAACUACAUCCCACAAAACGACAAAAUCACCUGCCUUUAGCCAAGUUGUGUUUCAACAGUAAAGUAAUUAUCUCAAUCAAAACACAAAAUUCAGUUUUCUAAACAAUUAUUGUUAUUGGAAAACAUGCACGGAACUUAAGCAUCAUAAGGUACUUAAGCAAUCCUAGUUGGACGUUCAGUAUCCAGAUCUUUUCAUUAAUUGGUUUUUCUCUUUUUGUGCCAACAUCUGCUCUCUCUCUCCAGCAUGCAAGCGUAAGUGGUAAGCACCUCUUUUGUGCUUUAAAUUAAUUGGAUACUUGAUCUUAUUCCGCCAUUCUUUUGGGUCUAACCCAAAAAUACAUUUACCAUGCCUUCUUUUCAUGUCCUCAACUUACUCAAAAGCUCAUAAGUCCCAUUGGAUAUGAUGUACUGAGUUUCAGAUUUUUUAAGUAAAAUUAUCAACAUCGUCUAGCAUAUAUACUAAUAAGUUAUACUCUUUUCAACAGUUUAAAUUGUUUUUGUUUAUAGAUUAUAUGGAUGUUUUAACACUCAGAGAAAUUGAAAUGCAGCCAAAUAUGCAGAAAAAAGAAAUGGUUGUGACCAAUAGUUAUAUUUAUUCUCUUUUAUUUCUAUUGAUACUCAAAUUUUUAGGGAUAGAGCGUCAACAAUCCUUGUGAUGAGUUAAUAAUGUUGAGAAAAGUCAAUGACUACACAAUGUAGCUUAAAACCAAAUAUGUCAUCAAAGAAGACAUCAAUAAUCACCCCCACACAAUGAUAUGUUGUAUAAUUCAUUACUUGUAUCAAACACAAAUUUGCUUCAAUGUGUGUCUAUGAAUAAAAGAGAGUUCUUGGUUUACAUUCGAAAUACAUGCUAUAUAGGCCAUGCUAAUAGCAAUUGAUAACAAGAAUCUCAACACUGAAGUCCACGUAGAAUCAGGUGUGCACCAUAUUGGGGUUGCAUAGUUAGGAUACUAAAAGGAGCAUGAGCAUAGGAUGGCGAAAGUUCAAAUGAGAAGUGUUGUAAGAUCAUUGCCAAAGCUAUUUUUGCCUCCAUCAUUGCAAAAUUUUGUCCAAUGCAUACCCGAGGACCCCAACCAAAUGGGAAAAAUGAAACUUGGUUUUUUGUUGCCUUCAAAACUCCUUCUGCAAACCUCUCUGGAUUAAACUCCUUUGCAUCAUCCCCCCAAAUUUCAUGAUCAUGGUGAACUAGGAUGGUGGGCAACACGACCUGCACUCCAGCUGGAAAACACAUGUCUCCCACUUGAGUAUCCUUAUAAACAGCUCUAGCAAGCAUUGCUACUGGUGGGUAUAACCUAAGAACCUCAUGAAAAAUCAUGGUAACCUGUGGUAGAGAAACUUUAGAAGUUGUUGCAUGAGAAUUCUUACUAAAAUACAUUCUAAAUCAUUAUGAAGGACACUGAAGAAUAAAGCAAUUUCUUAAAAUAGUGAUGCAGAAGACAAAAUGUUCUAAAUCAUGCAUGACAAAAUAUCAAGUAUGCAAAGGACAUUGCAUAUCCCAUGGAUAUAAUAACUUAAGAACCUCAUGAAAAAUCAUCAUAAUCUAGCAGAGAAAUUUGAAAUCAUGGCAUGAGAACCCGUUCCUGAGCUACUAAGUGAAAGCAAAUGUUUAGUACAAGAUAUAAAAACUUAAAGAGAAAUGUGUUUUCAAUUUGACUCCAAUUAUGGGGGAAAAAACAAAGUACUAUACGAUUUUAGUGAGAAUCAUUAAACUGAAGAUUGGACUAGUACUCACAAUUUUUAGGUGAUUUAAUCCAGCAGCUUCUGGUUUUUUAUUCCCAAAAACCUGUAAAACCUCUUCUCUUGCACGAGCUUGCCAGUUUGGAUGCUCGCUUAGCAGGACCAUUGUCCAUACAAGCAAAACUGAGGUUGUCUCUUGGCCAGCAAGAUAGAAUAGCUUACACUCUUCAAUGACAUCUUUGACACUCAUUCUAAUCUUCUUGUUAUUUUGAUGUUCUUGAAUUUCUCUAAAAUUGGAUUCCAUUAGUAUACCUAAUAAGUCACUAUUAGCAGUUUCGCCAGCCUUCAUUGCCUUCUCCCUUUUGUUAAUGAUACCCCUCAACAAUGCAUAUACUUCUUUGCUUAUUUGCUUCAUCCUCCUGUUCGUCUUUGUGGGUAAAAACCUGCCUGCAUGUUAGUAAUUCUAGUAAAUAAAACAUCACAUGAAACACAGACAUUAAUUCUUAUUUUCAUCCAUGCCUUCUACUUCUCCAUUAAUUUUUUGAAACUUGUAUAAGGCUUCAAAGGUAGAAGCUAUCAAGACAAUAACUAAUGGUUUCAUCUACACAUGUGUUGCAGUGGUAUCUCAUCAUCUUGACACAAUAUCCUGCAAACAUAAGCUAGAUUGAGGAUACUAAACAUCAAUUAGUGAAACAUACUACUUUCUAAACGUUAUACAAAAGAAGUAAUUGACUAAAAGGGGAUGAAAUGAUCUCAGAGUUGUAAAUCUAAUAUCUCUUAUGCUUGACCUUGAAAAGUAAUCCAUUUUUAACAUAAAUUCUCUUCGAACAUAAAUUCCCUUCAACCUUGUUAACCAAACACACACUUGAGCAUUGUGAAACUUUCAACCUAUGAAGCAAAAUUUAUGUUGGCAUCAUUUGUAGGUCAUGAAAUUUGUUCAAGAAACUUAAUUUACCACACAAGAGACUGAUAAAGAUCUAUAUGGAUAUAAAAUCAACAAUUACAUUAUGAGAAAAAUCUAGUUCUCCAUGAUGGUGUUGAAUUUUGAAUUUUGCCUUAGUAUCUGUUGGAAUUUGAAUUUUGAAGUUAAAUUUUGUAGUUGGAGUCUUGCACAAAAUCUGCAACAUCCAAAUAUUUUCUUGUUUUUAUUUGGUCAAGAUUUGGUUUCUAUUUUAUAGGAACUAAUUGUUCAUCAUCUAGUAGCUUGAUUUUCUGUUAUUCUAAUGUCAUUUUAGUUACAAGCUUAUGUAUAAAUUCAAUACUCUUCAUCAAUAAAAUGUGUGUUCCAGUAGUCCAAAAAUAUAUAUUCUGCAUAAGUGUUUUAAUCUAAGAUCAACAGAUGGAAGCCAGUAUAUUGAUACAAAAUAUCAUUGAUUAGAGAGUACAUUAUGAAAUAUGAAGUGCAAUUAAAAUUUACAAAAUCUCAUGAUCAAAUUGUGAAAACAUUAACCAAGUCCCUCAAGUUUAAAGAUUUUAGAAAGCUAAGGAUGUUAGUUAAACUAGAUUUAGAAAGUUUCUAAAAAUUAGAUUUUGAGUUAGGUUUUAAAAGUUAAUUAAAAUAUUUUAUAGAAAAUUCUUGAUUUAGUUUGUAUAUUUUGUUACUGCAAGAUUUUAUAUUUUACUAUUGUGAGUAUUUUUUUUAGGUGUUAGGUGUUACUAUUGUGAGUAUACAAUAAAUUUUUUUUUAAUCAUCUCAAUUAUUUAUAUAUGUAAUUGCUUGUGUUUUUUCAACCACAUUGCUGCAACAUAGGUGAAUCCGCUGGUUGGUCUAUGAAAAUUCAUAUCAGUUGUUCAACCUUUUAAAUUCUGUAACGUAUGUAGAUUAUAUAGCCUCUUUCCCUAAGCCUGCAUUUUUCUUUCAUUUCAUGGUGUCAACACUUCAGGAAAGCAAAAUUUCCUAAAAUGGAAUAUGGUGUGCAAGGACAAAGAGACUUGUUAGGCAUCUAAACUCUAGGGAAAUGUAAGACUGAUUUGAAACCAAAAUUUGAGCCAACUAAAUCUGCUGAAACACUGCUGCAAAAAGAAAACAAGCCCCAAAUAACUCUUUGAUCUUUUGUACCAAGCAGACUCGUGUCUGAAUAGUUUCAGAAAAAUAAGCUGUAUAUUUCUUGAAAUAUUUUUAUGCAUACCUCCAUCCCGGGAUAUAAACUGACAUUGUAACCUGGAUUGCAAGAUGUGUUUGUUCUUUCUGGAGCUGGAAUAUCCUUCUUCCUUCUUCAUAGCUACUACCAAAUGCUGUCCGAGAAAUCACAUCCCCUGUCAAAUUUUCAAGAUAGGGCCAAACAUCCAACUCACAUGAUCCCCCCACUGAAAGCAUUUUCCAUUUGGUCACCAUGUCGCUACAACUCAAAUGAAAUGCCGGCAACAUAUUCUAUAACAAAUUCAACCACAAAAUAAAUUAAUAAAGACCAAAACAGUCCAGUAUCCAGUUUCAAAUUCAAUAUACAGCCAUUUAUCACUGACCUGCGAAAUAACAAUUUAACUAGUUUAUAAAGCAUGUACUGCUUAAAGUCAUCAUAUGUUAGGAAGAGUCAUAUGGGUGAUGGGUGGAGGAUGAGGAAUAUUCAGUUUUACCAUGGAGGCACUGACUAAAGAAAUCAUAGAAAAAAAAUGUGCAUAUUCAUGAAAAGUUAGAUGUACUGGUAAUGUUAAUGAAAAGUUAGAUGUAUGGGUAAUAAGCAAGCAAGAUAAGAAAGUUGUUAAGAUCUUACUGUCAUAUGUAUCAAGUAUUUUAAACUAGGAACAGACAAUCAAGCAUAUUUUGAUCCUUAUGGUUCAAAUUACCUAUGGUUUACAUUGGUAAAUAAAACUUCUGAAAAUUUCUAUUGGAGACUGGAAAAAGACUUUAGAUGAGUAAGAAAAAAAAACAAGGAAAAGGUAGGACACAUUAGGUAUGUGAAAAUACUUCAUUAAACUGAUUGAAAUAUUUGGGAAUUUCGAUAAUUAUCUUUAUGGUAGCUGAAAAAGGUAUUUUAAAAUAUAUGAUAAUUUUUCAAAUACUAAUAUAAAAUUAUCUUUGGAAGACACAAUUUUAAUGCAGUUUUCAAGUGUUAAAUUUACUUUUUUAAAAAGACAACUUUAUAAAAUUCAGUUCUUUUAACUUUUAAAUGAUAACUUUCAAAUUAGUAUCUAGCAAUCUUUUAAAUGAUAAUUUAAAUGAUAACUUUUAAAUUAUAAAAUAAAUUUUCAACUACCAUAUUUUAGAAGGUUAUAUAUCAAUCUAAGAUACAUGAGAUGAGAAAUGGGUAUUCAUAACCUCCAAAUCUUAUAUAUAUUAUCACUUAAAUUUUUUUUUCCACUGCAUUCACAUGCUCAAUCUCUUUUCCAACAGUGAGAGGGCUAUGCAGAGAAGUUAAACUAGGGAAAAAAUCCAAGUCUGUAAUAUGUCACAAUUGAAGCAGUUUCAAUCAUGGAACUGUUUGUUCACUUUCAGAGUUUGUGAAAAGAUUUAAAAAAAAUACAUGAAAAUAAGGUAAAAUAUUCUGGUUUGGAAGCUGGGCAUUGAAAAUUACCUUCAACUUUUCUAGAUGGAAAGCUGGGUUGAUGAUCUUUCUACGUUUAGCCCAUCGUUCGCCUUCCAAGGUCACCAGACCAGAAACCAGCAACUUGCCAAGUGGGUGUGGGGGUGGCUUUUGAAAGACAUUGGACUUUAACAAAACAUCCCUUAUUAGCUCAGGCUCCAUAAUGUUUACCAUUGGAUUUGGACCGAACCAUGCAAAGAAAUUUUUACGUGCACGUUUAUGCCAUUAUUGGAUAGUGUUAGCCUCAGAUUGCUUUUAGUUUGGACUUCACACAAAUUCAACUUUGGGUAUUAAAAUUCAGUUGAACCCAACUUGGACCAUGAAAACAAUGAAAACUUCAACCAUAGUUUCUAUGCUGAGUUAUUAUAAAUGGACUAAAUCAUUUUUUCAGAAUUGUCUCAAUGUCAAUUGAUAUUAAGGAAUGAACUCUAUUCAUUGUAGCCUUGAGAUUAAAUAAUGAAAUCAGAAGUUAUUCACAGCUCCCAGAAAUUAAACAAUUGAAAACUAAAAACAGUACUUUUCAAAGUGGAAGUAUAUUAAUUUCUUGAUAAAAGAAAUUGCAAUACAGUUAGCAAAGAUUAAGAACUACCACUGAAGUCUAAACCUUUGGUGUAAUUUAAGAAAGAGGAAAAUAAACAAAACAGAAAGGAAAAGAAAAAUAGUUAGGAAGAGAAGAGCAGAUAACAAACAACUGCUUUAGGGCAGUAUAAAAAAGUUGGCCAUAAUUUGUAGAGAUCAGCAAACUUUAAUACUAUGAUGAAAAGUAAUCAGUCAUAUCGGUACCGUAUUUCUUAAUGAAAUGACAAUGGAAGGGCAGGACACGCGGAGCAAUUUCAUCGGAGAGGCUGAUUGGUCUUGAAUAUGCUUCUUUUAACAUCAUGGACAUCUCUUUGAAGUCCCCAUGUAAAAGCCUAUAAGAAUUCCCAGCCAGGCCUUGCUCUCUAAGGCAUCUUUCUAACCUCUUUGGCCUCAACCACACCCAAUUCAGUAGCCUCCAUAAACAGCUUAUGAGCACAGUAAGGAAUCCAAAAGAAAUUGCAACUGAGCUAUGCUUCAUUUCCAGUUUGAGGGACUUCUAUCAGGAGACGUGUGUUAAAUCACUUCAGAGUGAGAGAAUGACUUUAUGCUGCCGAUGUGUAUAAAUUGGCCCCUCUUCUAUUCCCUCGUGCCGGCAAACAUAGAAGAUUUCGUCAAUGCCUAAUGGGGAGAAGAACGUCUAGUAUUUUAAAAUCUAUAAAUUAUCUAUUUUAAUUGUCUCUAUCAAUAUGGAUUUUAAACUUGUCAAUGAAUUAUUAAUUUAUUCUAUUUGAUACAUUUCAAAGUUUGUGCAAUCAUCACUGCUUAUUAAAAACUAUAUAUGCCAUGAAUGUAGAAGGCAAAAUUUGAGCAUACGGAAUAUGGAAUUCUAUUUGAUGGACCAGCUUUCACUUGUGAGUAGAUGGAGCAUGUGGAUGCUCACUUUCAGAGCCUCGAGGGACAGCUCGCAUCCCUCACAUCUUGGCAGAUGUCGCAGGGUGCUUCCAGCUCUACAACUCCAUCUGAUCUGGACUUUUUGAUACUUCAUGUUUUUUUUUUCGUUUUUUCGUUUUUUUUUUGUUUUUUGUUUUUUUUUUUUUUUGUUUUUUUGUGGAUAAGUUUAUUUUGUACACCUAACCAUCUUGGCUCAGUCUAUCAUAUAUUUUGUUUGUCUAGAUGUACUUUUAUUUUCUUAUCUCUUGUAUCCAGAACCUUUUUUACCAGAUAUGUCCAUGUGUUUGCUUUUCUUUUCUCCUUUUCGUAUGCUUACUGCUUUAUCAUGCUCUUUGUCAUUUUUUGCAACAAAAGGGGGAGAUGGAUUGUUGAUUUGAUUGAGUGUUUUGAUAUUCAUAUUUUUUUGACAUCUGUUUCAUGACUUGCAUCCCCUUACUCGUUUACCUGAUUUGAUAAAAUUGAUCAAUUAUCUUUCUUCCCACACACUACUUUACCUGGGUAUGUUGUUUAGUGUGUGCAAGUUAUAGGUACUAGGGUAUUGCUCAUUUUUUGGAUGUGGCUUCUAGUCCUUUGCACGUUAGAUGAUGAAUUGGUUUAGACAAGAGGUAUUGAGAGAUUUGUAAACUCCAUUUGAGAGUAUUGAGGGGUUUAUGCAAUUUGUAUUUUAUCACAAAAUUGCCAAAGGGAGAGAUUGUUCGUACAUUAGGUGAUGUAGUUUAAAAUUGUCAAUUUUGUUCUAUUCAUUUUGGUUUAGGAUCUUUCUAGAUUGUGUCUCACUCCCCAUUGAAGACUCAAGGUUAUUAAUUGAUCAACCAAGAUUACAUAGGUAAGUGUAAAAAGAUUUGGGAAAGGCAAGUUAGUGUUUGGUAUGACAUGGCAUGGAUUGAGUGGUUUGAAAUUGAGCAAAAUGAUUUUCUAACUGGGUUUAAAAAAUGCCUAAAGCGCUCAAGCACUCUAAGAGCAUUUGAGCCCUAGCAACAAAAUUCUCUAGAAUUUUGGAGAUUUGUCUUUCUAUUUUUAAAGGAUUUAUUUUAAGGAACUUUUUAGAAUUAGUCCACUAGGUUCCUAGGCUUAUAUAUACAUUGCCUAAAAAGGUUUUUGGUUUGAUGCUUUUGAGUUUAAAAACCUAGUUUGUCUUCCUUUUUCCAAAAUUCUAAAAGAAACAUUCAUAUUUACUUCUGCCUAGUUGAAAAGGAGAUUUGUAUCCCCCUCAAGUGCUGAAGUGAGAUCCUCUAUGAGCACAUGAGAUGUUGCAUUGUGGACGCAAAACAUAGUGUAGGUGUUAGGUAGUAAGUCUUAGUAGUAGCUUUCAUCAAGUAAAAUUGAGUACAUACCCCAUUAUAUAUGAUGGAGACUUCCUCUAAUGCAUAUCCUAGAAUCGAAAUCAAUUGAUACUAAAUUAACACCCAACCCAUAUUUCAAACAAAAUCUUGCAAUUUCACAUUUUGAGCACCAAUCCAUGAAAAUGGUGUUUUUGGGGAGCAAUUUCAAUUGAUUUAGGAGAGCAGAUUAGAUCUUACCCUUCCCCUCUUGAGACUUGAAACUUAGGAGUAACCUGUUUUCAGAUAGAUUCAAUAUCACUAAUUGAUUAAUUUCUAUGUACAAUAUGUUUUUCUAAAUUUUAAACUCAUUCAAAUUCCAUCCUUUUAAUUCUAUUAGAAUAACGUAAAUCAUAUGGAAGUUAGAUUCUAAAUCUCAAGUCUUCACAUCAUCAAGUAUCAACUAUAAGAACUCAAACUCAACACUUUAGUGGCUCUAAAGAGUCUAUUUUAGUGCAUUUGAGGUAUUUAAAAAUGACAUAAUGCUUGCUUUUUUUUUUUUUUUUGUUAUUAAUGCCUUAGCCAUUUGUUUUUUAUAUUUUUUGUGAGUAUUUUUAGAACUUUAAGGUAUUUUGAAAAUGAAGUAGACUUUGUGGAGGAUUCUCAAAGAAUAAAAUGCCUAAGUAGAGAGCAAAAACAAAUUUUGUACCUUUUAAGUACACAGGAGUCUAUUGUGCAUCUCUCAAGUGUGCCACCAAACUAGAUUGCACACUCCCUCUAGCAAUUUAAGUUGAGCACCUUCCCCAUGAUUCAAAGGUUGCAUACCCCCUCAACAAUUGAACCCAACAAGAGCACUCAAGUUGUGCAUGUCCGUAACAUCUUAAUUGCACUUUUCCCUACCACUACAAUAGCGUAUCCCUAAGGCCACUCACCAUGCACUGUCACACCCCAAAGCCCACUCCAAGGGCAUGAUGAUCUUUUCACACCUAGCUCAAGCCCAAGGGCUCAAAGUGGAAACGACACAAACAUUUGUAUUGUAACUGGAAAUUUACCAAUUACCAAAUUCCUGGAUCAAACUUUUUCAAUUAUGCUUGCAAAUAGGAGAUAUAACAUAUACUUAUUUUCAUAAAAACUUUUGAGUUCAAAAUGCUAAUACAUUCAAACUUUUCUACAAAACUUUCUCAUAUCCAUUUCAAAAAAAUUUCUCAUCAAACCAAAUCAAAUACAUUCAAAAUAUCUUUACUCUGGUUAUCGUAUGACAAAUGGUGCCCAAUUAGGUGGGACUUUGCAAUUGAGUAACUAGUUUCAAAUUUGUUCAAUUUAAGGUGAACAAAACCAAAUGUCAACAAUUAUAACUCAUUGACUAGGGUCAUAAGGUCAACCAUUAUAACCCAUUGACUAAGGUCAUAUAACAUCAACUAUUAUAACCCGUUGACUAAGGCCAAAAAUGUCAACUAUUAUGACCCGUUGACUAAGGCCAUAUAAUCCAGAGUCAAAUACUUUAUUUCAUUAAUUCAAACUUGCAAAACAAAACAUCAUAUCUCCUCAAUUUUUCAUUUUUCAUAAACAAAGAAAAUACUCAAAUAUACUUUCAAUAAAAAACAUAUAUUUGAUCCACGCUUAAAGAUAAAAAUAAUAUUUUUACAGAUUUCAAAAUACAAUAUAAAAAGAAAAUUAUUUUUUUUUACAAAAAUCUGCAUUAAUUUCAUUUACCUUGAAGAAGCACUCAAAAUCUUAAAGUAUUUAGCUUUGAAGAAUUUCCUCCUCACCUAACUUAAUAUCAUACACAAUAUUGAUUAUUGAUUAUUUAUCUAAAUAUAUAAAUUUGACAAUCCUAAAAAUAUUUUAUUUAGUAUUAGGGAUCCUAAUUAAUUUCUCAUGUUAAUAUUAUUACCAUCCAAUAUUAUUUUCAACUUCCUAAACAAUAAUAUAUUUCUCUUUUCUAACUUAUCUAAAUUAAAUCUUUUAAGAAUAUUUGUUUGCAUUAAAAAUUAUUACUAUUAUUUAAAUCUCCUACUAAAACUUAACAAAUACCCCAUGCAAUUCUUUUUUUUUUUCCCAGUAACUCCACACCAACUCCAUUCAUUAUUAUUAUUUCUUUUAUUAUUAUUAUUAUUAUUAUUAUUAUUAUUAUUAUUAUUAUUAUUAAUUUCAAUACCUAACAACACCUUAACCUAUUUCUCUUCCAAGCCAUCAAUGUCCUUUUCUUCCUCAUCGUUUACCAAAAUACUAUUUACUUCCUUUCCUAGGUCAACGUGCAUUAUUAUUAUUAUUAUUAUUAUUAAUUUCAAUACCCAACAACACCUUAACCUAUUUCUCUUCCAAGCCAUCAACAUCCUUUUCUUCCUCAUCGUUUACCAAAAUACUAUUUACUUCCCUUCCUAGGUCAACGUGCAUUAUUAUUAUUAAUUUCAAUACCCAACAACACCUUAACCUAUUUCUCUUCCAAGCCAUCAACGUCUUUUUCUUCCUCAUCAUUUACCAAAAUACUAUUUACUUCCUUUCCUAGGUCAACGUGCUGACCAUUUCUUAGUUCACUACUACAAAAUAAUUUAUGGUGUCACUAUUUAUGGUGCCACUUUUAAAAUAAUGACACCAUAGGGUUUAUAACUAAUAAAGGUGACACAUUAGAUAAAAAAUCUUCAAUUGAGGUGGUUAGAUGAUAUUAGUUUUAUAUUUAUAGUGUCAUUUUUUGGGAAGUGACAUCAUAUAAAAUAAAUUUUUUUAAGUAUUAUAACUUAAUGAGCCCACUUGAGCUCACUUUUAGAAUUAAUAAUGAGAGACCUAGGAGUUUUAAAUAUGAAAAGACCGUUUUACCCUUAUUAAAUUACUUAAUUAAUUAUUAAUUUCUAAAUUAUGAUUUUACCCCUAAAUUGGGUUUAGGGCAUUACAUGCACACUGUUCCCACUCUUGCAAAGGUUGCGCACUUGAGAAAACUCCUUCCAAUGAUUUUACACUCACCAAAGUAAUGCAAGCAUCUAAGCCUUAAGUCAUCAUCUAUACUAUCAAUUCUCCCAUACUGAUUGCAUUGAAAGCCAAGUGCAACCACCAACUCCAAGCUGACAAGUCAAGUUCAAGAAAGAUGGCUAGGUUACUACAUUGACACAUGAUCUGAUCCCCAACAUGGGUAAGAGGCAGUUCUAGGAGAAUAGUUUGAGCAAUAAGAAUGGAUUACCUAAAGGGAAACCCAUCUAUAAAUAGAGGAUUGUCUGGGGGCGCGUGCACACACACACAUAUAAAUAUGUAUGUAUGUAUGGGGAGAAGAAAAGAAAAAAAAAAAAGGAAUGUUGAAGAGCUUGAAUCUUUAAUGGAGAUGAUAUUAACCUUUUUAGGAUUUAGUUAGGAAUUGAUUUUGGUAAUUAAAAUGACAAUUAAUUAUUUGGAUAGGAUUUGUUAGGUAGUUUCCUAUUUCUUUCUAUAUAUUUUCCUUAUUUUUGUAGGUUUCCUACAGAUAUAUAAAUAGAUGACAUUUUCUCUUUUUUCUCUAUGAAUGAAUAUAUGACUAGAUGAUUCGUCCCCAUUGCAGUCAUUCCAUUUGAUUCCGGCUCAGACGGGUGUUAUCAACAAAAUUUAUAAAACCUAAAUCACCUCACACUAGGGUAGCAUAGCUAACAUAGUAUAGUGGCUCUAGGAUCGUCCACACGGAUGGGUUUUCAUCGUAUAGUUGACUUAAAUGAAGGAAAUAAAAUGAUGCUUUUUCUUAUGAAAGUUAGCUUGUAAAGAAAAUUGGAAUUAUGGUUGCAAAGAUUGAUUUUAAGUUAAGCAAAAACAAUAAGUGAAAUUAACUACAAAAAAAAGGGUCUCUUGGAGCUUCAAGUCACUAGGAUCGAGUUUCUUAGGCAAAGGUGGAGAUUCCAGAUCUUCUCCUCGCGUUGGGGAUAAUAACAUAAAGGAUGGUUAUCUUCCGAACCGGUUUUAUAUUUAGCAAUUAAGAUUUGAUCCAAAAGUUUUAUGAGAAAUGGUAAUUGUUUCCCAUUAAUGGCUUCAAACCAAUGUUUUAAAAACUGGACCGGACCGGCCGGUCCAACCGGUUCAACCGUCGACCGGUCACAAUUUCGGUCCGAUCUGCUUAUUGAACCGUUUAAGAUUUAAACCGGCCACGAACCGCCGAAACCGGCGGUUGGACCGGUGACUCGGUCGAACCGGAUGGUUCUAAUCGAACCGAACGGUUCAAUUUGAACCUCCAUUUUAAAGGCUCCCUUGCAUAAAAAAGUUUUGGCAAAUGCCCAUUCUGGGCCUUGUCUCAUCAAGACAAAGCCCAAACCCCACUCAACCAUAUUGUGGGCCUAGUCUUGAGCCCACCCAAUGAGGCAAUGCAUUGGCCUUCAAUGUGGAUAGAAUUUAUAGGCACCCUUGGCAUCCUCAUUUCUCUUUGAAUCCGAUGUGGGAUUCCUAACCAACCAAAUGAAUGAAAAAAAUAAUAACAAGUCCCCCCAGCCAAGAGGAAUUGAACCUUGGACCCCAGAUUCGGGGGGCAUCCAAGGCACCACUCGGCUACACAGCUUUUGUUAGUUAAUAUGCUAAACAAAAUAAUAUAUAUUAGAUUUAAAUUUUUUUUUGUAAUGUUAAAUAAAAAUAAUAUAAUAUUUUUAAAAAUGAUAAAAUUAGUUUAAAUUUUCAUUUUUAAUAUAUUCAUAUUUAAAUAUUUUACAUAUUUCAUUUAACAAAAUUAAAAAUAUUAAUAUGAUUUAAUUUGAUAAUAUUAUUGAUUUUUAAUUUAUUCAUAUAUAUUUUAAAAUUUUUAUAAUUAUUUUUAAUUUUAAUAAUAUAUAAAUUAUAUAUUUAUGACGUCACUGGUUCAAUAGCGGUUCGACCGCCGGUCCGACCAGUGAACCGUGAACCGGUAACUUUUCCGGUUUGAUCACCGGUCCAGUUUUGAAAACAUUGCUUCAAACACUAAAGACUUUCACCUUGAACCACCUUCCAAUGGCUCGUAAAUGAUAACUAAUAGACAUCCAUGGAUCUAGCAAUAAGCAUCCAUGGAAUUCGAAAAGCUUAGCAAGUAUUGGCCAUUCAAGGUGCUUUUAAGGGGUUUAAAACUAAACCUUGAAAUAAAAACCAUUGAUGGUUAAUAACUACUGUCAUUUAAAGCUAGGAUAACUUUCACCUUUGCAUUCAGGUCCUUCACCUAACUUCCAUCAAUCCGAGAAACGUAAAACCUAGCCACUCAUCCCCUAAGAAAUCAUCCUCAGAGGUUGUUUGGCUAGCAAGAAAAGUGAAAACAAAAUGAGAAGGAAAGGCAGAGCAAAAGCUCUAUAUAUUUCUUAGUAUGAGAAUUUACAAGUGUUUUAUGAAAAACAUACAUAAUUUUUCAUCCCUCUGUCUCUCUCCUUAUAUAUAAACUACCUAAAAGAUAUAUAAAAGAAAAUAUCUAGGUUGGUUACAAGGAGAAACUAGGAAAUUACACAAAAUAUCUGAAGAUAAAAAUCUAACGGAGUCAGUGCAUAGGAAGAUUUCGCAUACCAUGCGAAAUUUGGCAUGGUGUGCGAAAUCCUUUGGCUGCCUCAAGUGGUUUCGCAUGGUGUGCGAAAUUUUGCACAGCCAUGCGAAACUGCUUGUUGUUGGAUUUCUUCCUUUGGUUUUCUUCCUUGCAUCUCUGAUUGGCUUGGCAAAGGGCUAUGAAGUGCUCCAAAGCUUGGCUUCUUCAUGUAUUUGAUUUAUCUUGCAUUGCCAUGGAUUUCACCAUAUUCUCCCUUAUUCUUGGCUUGUUUCAAUGAUAAAAAAGCUACCAAAAACAUCAAAACUUGCCAAAAACUGAUUAGUAACCCUUGCUAGGUUCAUUAAUGUGCCAAUUGAGUUAAAAGGUAUUAACUACUACUCAAAAAUGUUUAAAACAGUUAGUUUCAAACUAAAAAAGAGUACUUUUUGAGUAGUAAUCACUCCCCCCAACCGACAUAUUGCUAGUUCCUUAGCAAUAAAGGAGAGAUAAAGAAGAAUAGACAGUAAAAUAAUUUACAACAUCAUGCUAAUCACUCCAAAAAAAUUUCAAGUGGCAUGAUGCAGAUUAUACUCUCUCACUGGAAUAUCAAAGAGGCAAAACCCAACCUUCAACAAGAGUCAUCAAAUCUCCUGCCUAAUUACAAUUUAUAAUGAGUAGGAAUUAUGAAAAUUUAAGCAUUAAAAGAAUUUCCACUCCCAGAGGUCUAAUCCUUAUUUUUCUACAAAAAUCCCAGUGUGUUAAGCUUAUUAGUUUGCAAUUAUAGUAUGUCGAACUAUUCUCUCCCCCAACCUAGUUCUUCCUCAAACUUUAGCAAACUGACCAACCUCCAAUAGGCUAAGAACGCACAUAUUUUAUUUCACAAUAUUUUUUCAUUGUAGGAGUGCAAUGCUAAAGGUAUUGUUUCCUAAAGUGUCCAUGUAACGGGGAUCCAUCGAUGACUCCCAACCAAUCAAAGUUUAGGGCAUCAAGAUUUAAGGAUCUUUUGACCACUAAACUCCUCAGAUUUUUUCCCGGACUUUUGAGAUUGAAAUUCAAUACCCAAGCACCUACAAUAUGUUAAACUCCACCUAUUCACCCUUGUAACGAGCAUUGAGGUCAGUGACUCCCAACCAAUCAAGGCUUAGGGCACCGGGUUUUAAAGACUUUCGCCGUAUACCCCUCAGACCUUGCUCGGGUUUUAAGGCAAGUGAAACACUUUGUUAUUUCUUUUUUUUUUAAAGGCUCAUUGUCCUUUUAUAAGGUGUCCCAACACUAUUAAAACGAGGUCAAAGGUACCAAGUCGAAAUUUUCCUAAGUUCAGGGGGUGAGAUAGUUUUUCAUCUUAUAACCGGAACCUAAUGUGAACAAUGUGUGGUAAGAUUAAAGUGCAAGAAAUAAGAUUGAAUUCCAUAGGAGUUUCAAUACUUCAUCAACUUCAAUAAGCAUAAUACAAACUCUAAGAUUCAAGUAAAAAUGCAAGAACUCAUUUCCUCCCAUUUCAUUUUGAGAAUUUUUCCUUAAUAACCAUGGAAAGUAAAGUGAAAACUUUUAAAAUUAAGCCAAAAAGUAACUAGAUUAACAAAUUAACCUAGCAUUAUUAACAAAACUUCCUUCCUCAACUCUCCCCCCCAACCGAGAUCAACAUUGUCCUCAAUGUGUCAAGAGCAAUUGAAAAUAAAGGGAGGAAGUGGUACCUCCUGUAUCAAAUGGAGCCUGAGUCGUAUAGGAGAAACCACAUGAGUCAAAAAACAAAAGGGUAAUGAGUAGAGGAAAUAGAAAAAUGCUAAGUAUAAUAAAAAACAUGAUGAUCUAUAUAUUAAUAUGAGAAAGUACAAUUUGAGAUAUGAUUCGGUAAUACAUCCAAUCCCAGUUUAUAAAGCAUCAAAACAAGGACAAAUCUCCACUAAUAUAAUAUAUAAAUACAAUAAGAUAAAGAGAUGUCCUAUGAUCAAGUAGUGGGAGCCUCGGGUGGAGAUGAUGCCUGCUCAGGCGUAGUUGUGACUACGGGAGGUUCAUUCUUAGGUGGUGGAAUCCGGACCUCUGCUGGUGUAGUGUCGUCAGUUGGAGCUAUAGGCGCUGAGGAUGCGGGAAGGUCAGGCUGAGGCGGAGGCAGGAGUCCCAUGUGCUGCUGAAUCUGGUGGAGAAUAACAGUCUGUUGGUCUUGAUGGGCACGUAUCUCAGCCAUCUGCUAGAAGAUAGCAAAAUGGGUGGUGGUGAGUGUAUGAAAGGUAUGCACCAGGGCGCGAAACUCCGAAGCCGAUAUGGUGAUCGAAGGCUCGGAUGUAGUCGGCACGACUGGUGGAACAGUAGGAGUUGUAGGUGGAGCAGUAGAAGUAGCCUUAGGUGUGGGCACUAGUGGUGUCGUCUCUGUUGAGAGCUCGCCCUGCUCUAGCCGUGGGUGCACUGGUGGUGCUACCAUGGGAGGGACUCCUGGCGGUACAGAAUAGCCUACCAACUGAUUCCAUUUGUCAAGAGUGGAUCGUUCUCGACAAAGGCGGGGGCGCUCAAGCCGAGGCUCAGUAGGAAAGCCCAAAUACUCUAGGAUCUGGCACAGCAACCUCGGGAAUAGUAGUGGAAUGGUGUCGACCCUUUGAAGCUUCUUCCUAUGGACCUUCUCCUCAAAGUGGAUGAGAGAGGCCAUAAUCAAGUGGUGUGGGCCAAAGUAGAAGCCCUCGGAUAUAUGGAACAAUGCAUCCAAAAUAACUCAUCUCCUCUAUACUGAAUGUUGUAAUGGAAAGAGGUUGGAGCGCAACACCACGUCUAAGAGGAGCAUCCCAAGCAGAAGCUCCUUUCGUAGAAGGACCGAAUCAGUAGAGGUCCCCUUGGAUAAUAUGUGGACCAUGUCCCUGUGAGAUACGAGGGACUACUGGCGGAAAACAGAACGAUCCUCUGGCUCGAACGAAAUAUGUAGAGCCUCUGCAAUCUGUCUGGCCUUGAGUACACCAUAGACUAGUAAAAGUCUAGUGCUACUCUGGGAUAAAAAAACUCAUGUGGAGUCAUGAGGUGCUCAAGGUGAUACCUUUGGAGUAAGGCAUAGGAGUCUUGAAGCUCAAGCUGCUGUCGCAUGACCUUCUGAUCAAAAUAUAGCUCCGAGUGGAAGGGUCGCGCUUUACAAUCUGAGUUGCCCUCAAUGGGCAGUGUUGUGACCAUCGGAUGUCUGAUAAUCGACUUUGGUGACAUGUCAGAAGGUAACUCAGAAUCUGCUGGAGGCUCAGAAGCUUUGGAUGACUCUCUCGGGCUUGAAGUCCUGGCCUUCUUGGCUGGAAGGAGCCGUACUGAACUCUCGGGGCAUGAAGUAGUCGCCCCUAGGGUAGUAGGUGGUCUCCUCAUCUCGUACCUAUGCUGAGGAGCAAGUGAGGAAGGUCCAGUGACUUCUCCACCUUCGGAAGGUGGAAUCCGUGGGGCCUCCGCGGCCUAAGAUGGGGAAUCGCUAGGUACCUGAGCCGAGGAGGCUCUCUGCCUUGUAGUACGUCUUGGUGAAGGGGUGGGAAGGGCUCCUCGGGUUUGUGCCAUGUUAGAAAUGAAAGGCGAGCCUCGAGUAUGUUCUCUGAGGGGGCGCGGAGUGCGUUUCUUCAAAGUGAGAUGCGCGCGAGGCUAGGAAUCGAAUGGAUAGGGGUGAGGUCGCAAGGUGGCAGAGGAAAUUCGCAAUGAUAGGAGUGCUUGUGAAAUGAGGAACUGAAGAAGCUAGGGGUCGGGGGUUUAAAAAGAGAUAGGCAGGUGUCGUUUGGUUUUUGCAGGCAUCUUUUGGUUUUUGCAUAUUGUACGAAAUGGCUUUGGGGCUACGAAAUGGUUUCCCAGACCCCUUAGGGUUUCACACAAUGUGUGAAAUGGGUUUGAAUGUGCGAAAUUUUUUGCAUGGUCUGCGAAAAUUUUGCACAGUGAUCGAAAUGAUUUCGCAAGGAUUGGCUUAUUUUCCCUGGGUGUGCGAAUUUGGUUCGCAGGGUGUGCGAAAUUUUGCACCCCAUGCGAAAUGAGUGAUUGAUUUCGCAUGCCCUGUGAAAAUUUUGCAAGGUGUGCGAAUUGUUUUGAUUACUCUGUUUGAAAUCCUCCUGCAGUCGAUCAUAAAAAAAAUCUAAGUUAAGUCAAACCAAAAUAAAAUUAAAACGAGAAAUCAAAAUAAAAACAAGUAAUAAUACAGGAAAACUCUUAAAUUAGAAAUAAAAUAAAAAGAUAUGGACUCGAUUAGUAUUUAAAAAGACUAAGUCCAUCAAAAAGUUGGUCUUGUCAAGCUUGAUGUGGAUCAAGGAUGAUGAAUUCCUACUUAUCGUGAGAAAAAGGCUCCACAAAGGGCUUGAGACGGUGGCCAUUCACUUUGAAGCUCCUUGUGCUGUUGGAGUUGAGUAGUUCCACUACUCCAUUUGAAUGCACUUGGUGAAUGGUAAAAGACCCUAUCCACCUUGAUUUCAGCUUGCCCGAAAAGAUGUGGAGCUUAGAGUCAUAGAGCAAGACUCUUUGUCCCUUUCAAAAAUCCUUACGGGAAAUCAACUGAUCAUGCCACCUCUUCAAUUUCUCUUUUGCAAUUUUUGAAUUGAUGUAGGCAUCAUUUCUCAAUUCCUCCAUCUCAUUAAGGUUUAAGAACCUCUUUAACCUAGCUCUGCUCAGAUCCAUAUUGAGUUUCUUGAUUACCCACCAAGUUUUGUAUUCCAAUUCCACAGGGAGAUAGCAUGCUUUGCCAUAGACUAGGCAAUAAGGAGACAUCCCGAGAAUGGUCUUGUAAGCUGUUCGAUAUGCCCAUACUGAAUCAAGGAGCUUAAUUGACCAAUCUUUUCUAUUUGUGUUCACCACCUUCAUCAAUAUGUUUUUAAUCUUCCUGUUUGCUAAUUACUCAACUUGCCCACUAAUUUGAGGGUGGUAAGGUGUAGCUACCUUAUGCUUCACCCCAUACUUGGCUAGGAGAGUUUCAAAAGGCUUGUUGCAAAAAUGAGUACCUCCAUCACUAAUUAUUGCUUUGGACACCCCAAAUCUUGAGAAGAUGUUCUCCUUGAGAAACUUGAGAACCACUCUAUGGUCAUUGUGCUUACAUGGGACUACCUUAACCCACUUAGAAACAUAAUCUACUCCCACCAAGAUGUAAGAGUAGCCAAAAUACAUAGGAAAUGGUCCCAUGAAAUCAAUGCCCCAAACGUAAAAAAGAUCAACUAUCAAAAUGGGGUUCAAAGGCAUCAUGUUCUUGUGUGUCAACUUCCCAAGCCUCUGACAUUGAUCACAACUCUUGAACAUGGUGUGGGCAUCUUUGAAAAGUGAUGACCAACAGAAGCCCGAUUGCAACACCCUCAUGGCUGCCUUAUGAGAAGCAAAGUGGCCUCCACAUGCAUUUUCAUGGCAAUGACCGAGGAUCCCCUUUUGCUCUUCUUUAGAAAUGCACUUCCUUAUUAUCUGAUCCGCACAAUACUUGAAUAGAAAUGGAUCUUCCCAAUAGUAGGCCUAAAUUUUUGCAAAGAAGUGCUUCUUAUUUUGUGCUUUCCACUCACUUGGAAUUUCUCCUGUGACUAGGUAGUUAGCAAUGUGAGCGUACCAAGGGGCAACUUCCCCCAACAUAAGAGACUCGUCUGGAAAAUCGUCAUUAAUGGGCAUUCCAUGGGAAUUAUGUGCGAUAGCUAGCCUUGAAAGGUGGUCUGCUACCACAUUCUCCACUCAUUUCUUAUCUUUGAUAUGGAGAUUGAACUCUUGAAGCAAGAGAAUCCAUCUAAUCAGCCUUGCUUUAGCAUCUUGCUUAGUCAAAAGAUACUUCAAAGCAAAGUGAUCAGUGAAAACCACAAUGAAAGACCCCACCAAGUAAGCACAAAACUUAUCCAAGGAAAAAACUACAGUUAACAAUUCUUUCUUGGUAGUUGUGUAGUUUCUUUGCACCUCAUUCAACGUCUUGCUCGUGUAGUAGAUCACAUAGGGUUUUCCAUCUUCUCUUUGCCCAAGAAUAGCUUCUAUAAAAAAGUCACUGGCAUCACACAUUACCUUAAAGGGUAGUUGCCAGUUAGAAGCCCUCACUAUUGGUGCAGUUGUCAAAAAUAGCUUCAAUACUUCAAAACUCUUUUGGCAUCUAUCAUCCCAUAUGAAUUUAGCAUCUUUGACCAAUAGUUCACAAAGAGGCCUUGCAAGCUUAGAGAAAUCCUUGAUAAACCUCCUAUAGAACCUGGCAUGGCCAAGGAUUUGCCUUACUCCUUUGACAUUUGUUGGGGAUGGCUACUUAACAAUGAGUUCAACCUUUGCUUUGUCAACUUCAAUGCCUUUCUUGGAGAUGAUAUGUCCAAGGACAAUCCCUUGGUGUACCAUGAAAUGGCACUUCUCCCAUUUAAGCACUAAGUCUUUCUCAAUGCAUCGGUUCAGAACAACUUCUAAGUUGAUCAAGCAUUCAUCAAAUGUACUUCCAUAUAUGGUGAUAUCAUCCAUAAAGACUUCCAUAAUACCCUCCACCAUAUCAUUGAAAAUGCUUAACAUGCAUCUUUGGAAAGUUACGGGUGCAUUGCAUAAGUUGAAAGGCAUUCUCUUAUAUGCAUAGGUUUCAAAUGGGCACAUGAAAGUGGUAUUUUCUUAGUCUUCAACAUCAAUUUCUAUCUGAAAGUACCCGGAGUAGCCAUCCAAGAAACAAUAGAAAGGAUGCCUAGAGACCCUCUCAAGAACCUGAUCAAUAAAGGGCAACAGGAAAUGGUCUUUCCUUGUCACCGCAUUCAACCUUCUGUAAUCGAUACACACCCUCCAACCUGUAGUGAGGCAUGUAGAGACCUCUUCUCCCUUAUCAUUUUUCACCACCGUGAUCACAGACUUCUUUGGCAUAACUUGACUAGGACUCACCCAUGGGCUAUCUGAUAUGGGGUAAAUAAUACCGGCCUGAAGUAGCUUAAGAACUUCAGCUCGCACCACCUCUUGCAUGUGAGGGUUCAACCUUCUCUGAGGUUGAUGAACUGGCUUAGCUUCAUCCUCCAUGUAAAUGUGAUGAGUGUAGACUAAAGGGCUGAUCCCUUUCAAAUAAGAAAUUUGCCACCCUAUUGCCUUCUUACAUCUUCUAAGGACUUCAAGUAGACAAUCCUCCUGAUGAAUGGUAAGAGUUGAAGAUAUAACAAUAGGGCACUGCUUGUCUUCUUCCAAGUAUGCAUACUUCAACUCUAUGGGUAGUGGCUUAAUAAUAAGCUUUGGGGGUUCCUCCUUAACAGGUCUUUGCGUCUCCUCCUCAUUGAAUAAGGGUAGAAUUUCUUCUCUCCUCCUCCAUGGGAGCAGGGUAGCAAGCAAAUCUGAGGGUUCAAGUAACCCUUCAUCAAGAUCCCCAAAACUCUCAAUCAAAUCUUCUUGCAUUCUUUAAUCACAAUCCUCCUCCACUAAAGUGUCAAUCAUGCACACUUCCUCUAGGCCUUCUUCUUCUUCCGAAUGGAUAUGGUUCUUGUACAAAUGGAAGAUGUUGAGCUCCAAUGUCAUGUUGCUAAAUGUGAGUUGCAUGAAUCCAUUCCUACAAUUGAUGAUUGCAUUUGAUGUAGGUAGGAAUGGUCUUCCAAGUAUGAUAAGAACAUAAUUAGUUCCUAUGACAACUGGAUCCGUAUCAAGAACAACAAAAUCCACUGGAUAGUAGAAUUUGUCAACUUGAACCAAGAUAUCUUCGAUCAUCCUUCUUGGAAUCUUCAGUGAUCUAUCUACCAGAGAUACAGUGAUGGAUGUUGGCUUCAACUCUUUAAGUCCCAACUGCUUGUAGACACAGUAAGGUAGCAAAUUCACACUUGCUCCCAAGUCCAACAAAGCUUUCUCUACACAAGUCCCUCCAAUACUCAAUGAGAUGGUAGGGCAGCCCGGAUAUUUGUACUUCACUGGAGAUUUGCAUUGUAUUAUGGCACUCACUUGCUUAGUCAAGAAGGCUUUCUUGUUCACAUUCAACCCUCUCUUUACAGUGACAAGUCCUUCAAGAAUUUUGCAUAUGUCGGCACUUGUUUGAUCAUGUCUAGGAAAGGGAUAUUGACCUUCACUUGCCUUAACACUUCAAAAAUUUCUGAUGCAUUAUUAGUUCCCUUUUGCCAUGCAAAGCUUAGGGCAAAGGUGGAGGCAUGUGUUUCUUCAUCAUAUCUUCCUUGAUCACAUUCCUAUCGGGUUCUUCAUCCACACUAGACUUAUGGUCAUCUUUCUUUGUACUUUUCUUUUUUCUCUUUCCUUUCAUUUCCUCUCUUUUUUCUUUUUAUGCUACACUCUCUUCAUCAUGCUUUGGCUUGGAUGUGGGUUGAUUAACCUCUUUGAUUCGUGCCCAAUUGGUGUCUCAGCUGAUUUGUGUCCAGCUGGUGCUCCUUGAUUGAGGGAGUAAUCAACAAAAUUUAUAACCUAUAACACCAUAUACUAGGGUAGCAAAGAAAAAGCUACUAUAGUAUAGUGGCUCUAGGAUCGUCCACUGGGAAAGAUUAACAAGCUCUCAAUGAUACCAAUUCCAAGUGAAUUGGCCUUGUUUCAUUUCAAGGUUAGCUUAAGAAGUAAAACACAAACUUUAAUUGGUAAAGGUUUAGACUUAAACUAACUAACAUAACAGAAGUUUGGAAUAAUUUAGGAAGAAAAGCAUUCCCUGGAGAGUUCAGUUCACUGGGGUGGUUCCUCAUGCAAAAGACAUAGCUCCGGUCAGAUGGUUCAUUUCCUCGUGUUAGAGAUUCAACACAUAGUCAAUUCUCUAACCGGUGUUGUACAGAGACUCCUUCAAUUAGAUUUCACUUUAAUUCUCUCACUGAUGCAACUUGCAAUGGUUUAAGCCUCUCACUAAGCCUUAACCAUUCAAGGUGAUCUUUAACCUUGGAUUACCCGUCAAAAGCUCGCAAGAGAUAACUAAUGGAUGUCUCCUUGGAUUCCAAAAGCUUAUCAAGUGUUGGCUAUUCUAGAAAAUCCUACCUUGAAGUCACCUCCCAGAGGCUCGCAAGGGGUAAACUAGUGCAUUUCCAUGGUUGGAAAUCACUUGCCUUACCAAGUGUUAGCCCAGGUGACUCUAAGGUGUUUUAAGUUAACUAAAAACAUAGAAAUCAUUAAAGGAUUUCACUUCCUCUUCAUUAAUAGCUAAAACCACAGAGCUUUGCAUUCUUGCACUUGGAACCUUCCCCGGCAACCUUAGCUCCAAGGAACUACAGGUUUAGUUACUCAUUCUCUGGGGAAAACUCCUCAGAGAGUUCAUAACUUAGUAAGAAAAUGAAAAUACAAAGUGAGAAGGUAAGGUAGUAGAAAGAAAAUAAACUUACUUUCUUACCCAAAAUUUUACAGAAGGAACUCCUCCCUGAGAACAGGCUCCCGAGAGGUAUAUAUAUGUACAUAAUAUAAAACUAAUUAUUACAUAGAUAUUUAGUCUUUUUACUAACUUAAAAGCUAAGGAAUCAUGUAAUUGGUGGUUUACAAGGAGUAUUUUGGGAUUUAGACAACAAAAAUCUAAUGGAAAAUAUCUCCCAAUGUCGGUAGAAAAUAUCGGGAGGCUUCAGGAACCAUUUUGCAGGAGAAAAAUGGUGUCUGCGAGAUUUCGCAGACACUCAAGAGGGUUGCGAAAUAAUUUCGCAAUACCAAGCUAUCUUCACAGGGCUACGAAGAUGGCUUCCACCUUGAGGCUCCCAGCUUCCUUCUCGCGGCAUAAAUCGGGCAUCGUCAGAAGGAGAAACAUUACACUGUUCAAAAAGGCUGCGAAAUCACUUCGCAACAAAAGGGUGAUUUUGCAACACUUUGCAAAAUGCUUCCUUCAACUCGGAGUGAUUGGCUUGUAAUGGCUACAACUUCUUCGUUUCAACUCCGAAUUGCACACCGUUUGAAGCAUUGUAUUUUUGACUUCCUGAGCUUUGAAAUGGUAUAUAGCAUGCAUCAUUUGGACUUCAGAAAGUGCUCCAAAAGUGGCUUCUACGACUGUCAUCAAGAAUAUGCUUUAUGGCAGAUUCUCUUUGCUUUUUCUCCUUGCAAUCCGGAUUUACUCUUGGCAAAUGACUUCUAAGCUUUGCCCAAGAUUCCUCAUAGCUCUCCUCAGUCUGGACUUGCUUUGGUAAUCAAAAUACUAACAAAAACAUCAAAACUUACACAAAGUGAUCAAAAUUGCUUUCAAGGGUCCUUAACAUGCCAAUUGAGUUAAAAGGCCAAAACUACUACUCAAAAGUGUUUAAAAGGAUUAAUUAUAAGCUAUCAAAUAGCACUUUUUGAGUAGUAAUCACUCCCACCAACCGACAUAUUGCUAGUCCCUUAGCAAUAUAGGAGAGAAAAAUUGAAAAUAAAAAGCAGACUAAUCUAAAAUUUACAACAUCAUGCUGAAAGAAAGUUAUUCUCAAGUGGCAUGAUGAUCUAAUUCUCACAUGAAGCAUUAAAGAAAUACAAACCCAAAUCUCAACAAGAGUCAUAACAAACUAUGCUAAACACUGUCAAUCAAGGGAGUGCAUUAUGCAAACUGAAGUUUUAAAAUCAUUUCCACUUUCUAAGAACCAAACUUUAAUCUUCCACAAAAAUCUAUGUGUAUUGGUUCCUUAGCUUCCGAGAAUAAUAUGUUAAACUAAUCUCUCCCCCCAACCUAUCUCUUUUCAACACUUAGCAAACUGACCAAAAUCAAUAAGAAAAGAACACACCUUCUCUUUUUUUUUUUUUUUUUUUUUUUUUUUUUUUUUUUUAAGGUAGCUUUAUGGGGUACUCUUUCUGACUUGUCCAUGUAAUGGGGGUCCAUCAAUGACUCCCAACCAAUUAAGGUUUAGGGCACCAAGCUUUAAGGAUCUUUCAACCACUAACUCCUCGGAUUUUUCCCCGGACUUUUAAGAAUGAAUUUCUAAUACCCAAGCAUCUACCAUAUGCUAACUCUACCUAUUCACCCUUGUAACGAGCAUUGAGGUCGAUGACUCCUAACCAAUUAAGGCUUAGGGCACCAGGCUUUAAAGGCUUUCACCAUAUACCCCUCAGACCUUGCUCGGGUUUCAAGGCAAGCAAACAACUUUCUUUAUUUCAAAGGCUCAUUAGCCUUUUGCAGGGUGUUUCAAUUUUAUCAAAUGAGGUCAAAUGUACCAAGUCCCAAAAUUAUCCUAAGUCAAGAGGGAAAUAGCUUUUCAUCUUAUAAUCGGAAUCUAAUGUGCACAGUGUGUGAAUAGCUUAAAAUGGAAGAACUAAAUUCAAUUUCACUAGAAGCUUCAACAAUUGAACCACUUUAGUGAGCAUAAUCCAUACUCUAAGUUAAGUGAAAAACAACAGUUCAAUUUCUCUUGGUUUAAUUUGAAAAUUUUUCCUCAAAAUUCAUGGAGAAUAGAGUAACAAGAGUAAAAAGUAAAAACUACAACUAAUUAACCAAUAUAAUUGUAUUAUAAAAAAGAUUUAGCAUACUUCCUUCCUCAUUCCCCCCAACCGAACUGAGCAUUGUCCUCAAUGUGAUAUGAGUGACUGUAUUUAAAGAGAGGAAGUGGUACCUCCUUGCUGAUAUCAAAUUCGAAUAUUGAUUGGGGAAAACCACAUGUUUCAAAAAGAAUAGAAUAUGUGAGAAAAGGAAAUAAGAAUAACUUAAUGCUAACUGUUAACAAGAAAUAUUCAACUUGUAUUACUUUCAAUUCAUUCGAGUACAAUAUAAAAGACAAGUAACGCAAGUAAUCCCAAAUAUAGUACCAAAAUACUGGGAUUUCUUUUCAACUAAAAAAAAACAAAUACAUAAAAAUAUUAGAUAUAUAUAAUAGUUUGAUGAGUGGGGUGGUGGUGCUAGGCAGAUGGGUCUGCCUUUUCAGUAGGUGCAUCAGCUGGGGCUUGGGGCUCUGGAGGAUGAGACUCUGAAGGAUGAGAGUGUGGCUCUGCUGGUGUAUCAGUGGAGGGCUCUACAGCUUGUGGCAGAUCGAAAUGGACUUGGAGCUGCCUUAAGAUGGCAGCUUGUUGAGCCUGAGUGGCCAACAUCUGCUCUUGGCAUGCUCUGAUGGCUACCAUCUCCUGAGCAAGACUGCUCUAAGAAGCUGUAAGAGUCUCCAAUGCAUGACAUAACUCUCUAUAUUUAGAUAUAGGAAUGGCCAUCCUCGGCUCAGCUGAUGUGGAUGGCUGAGAUGAAGCUGAUGUAGCUGGUGGAGCUCUAGGAAUGGCAGGAGCAGCAACUGUUAUACCCUCAGGUAUAUGUCUUGGGGAUGCUCUCCUUGUAGCUGGCUGAGGCUGCUCAGGCUGAUCAACUUUGUAGGCCGUCAUAUUGUUCCAUUUAUCAAGAGUGAAUGGCUCACGGCAAAUUCGCUUUUUCUCCAGCUGAGGCUUAGAAGGGUAUCCCAGAUGCUCCAAAAUUUGGCAUAGCAGCUUUGGAAAGAGGAGUGGAAUGCAAUCAGCUCUCUGAAGCUUCUUUUUGUGAACCUUCUCUUCAAAAUAGAGAAGGGCUGCCAUGAUCAGAUGAUGAGGCCCAAAGAAAAAUCCUUCUGACAUCUUGUAAAGAGCUUCCAGGAGGACUCCCCUUCUUUGGGUCCAAUGCUGCAAUGGAUAGAUAUUAUGACACAAAAAGGCAUCAAUCAAAAACAUAACUGGAGGAAGCUCCCCCCUCAGCAGAUGUGAUCGAUUUGCAGCUCCUCUGGAAAGGGUGCGCACCAUCUCCAGCUCAGUAGGAUUUGCCCAAGCUCUAAAAUUAUCGAAUUGGGUUGGCUCAAAGGGAAUUUGCAGGGCUUCAGCAAUAUGUCGUGCUCCCAAUAUGCCAUGUCUCCCAUCGAUAGUGAAAUGAAUCAAGGUUGGAUUCCUAACCUCUUUGGUUGUCAUGGAUUGAUAGAAAUAUGUGGCUAUCCGGGGAUAGAAAAAGUCUCUUGGAGUCAGCAAGUGCUCCAUGUGAUACCUCCUCAGCAGCUGGAAUGAUUGGGCAAGCUCCGACCUCACUCUGAAUGCCGGUAAGUCGAAGCAUAGCUCGGAAUGGAAUGGCCGUGUUCUACAAUCCAAGUUUCCCUCAAUUGGGGGCUGAGGUAGCAUUGGCCUCCGGAUUACUUCUUCCAGAGCUAUUUCGGAUGGAAUUUGGGGCUCAGGAAGUGGCGUUGGAGGCUCCUGAGAUUUUUCUUGCAGCGCCGGAGAUGGUACCGGCGACGGAACUGGCAUGGGAAUCGGCGAGGGAACUGGAGACGACACUGGAGUUGGAACCGGUGAUGGAAUUGGUGAAGGCUCUAGAGAUUGCUCAGUCAAAUCGAUGGGUUUUGAGCUCUCCACCCUGGGCUUCUUUUGCAGCGGCCGACCUCCUGACCUGGUAAGGUAUCGUUUUGCCGGAGGCUUUGGUGGCGCUGGCUUCACCGGGGGAGGAAUUGCUUUCGGCUGCGAAGGCUCUGGAGCAGAAUCUGGAACUGGCUCCUUUCGCAGACUCUUCUUGCGAUUCGAAGGAGAUGAAGAUUUAGCCCCUCGUGUUCGCGCCAUUUCAGGAUACCGAACUUUGGUCGACGUUGCUAAUCGGAGGAGAUGACUGGAGGCUUGGACGGCGUGGCUCACUGAAGAAGACGAACCGCUUGCGAGAAUGGCGCUCUAAUUUUUGAAACCCUUUUCGCAGCUCAAAUGACCGGUAUAAAUAGGAAAAACGGAAGCCUAAGGGUCAGUUUAAGUUUCGCAACAAAACGCCAAUUUCGCAGCAAAAUGCCAUUUUCACAGCAACUUCGCAGUGCGUUUCGCAGCUGCGAAAUGAGAGUUCCUGUGUUGCGAAGUGGCACUCGUGUGCCAAAACCACUUUCGCAAUUGCGAAAUACCCUGCGGAAUGGGACUUUUGGUGCGAAAUCACGCUUUUCCACUUCGCAAUGCGUUUCGCAGCUGCCAAAUGGAUGCUACUGUACUGCGAAGUGGCACUCGUGUGCCAAAUUUGCUUUCGCAGCUGCAAAAUACCCUCACAGAGACUUCUACAGUGUUGCGGAAUGGUUUGGCAACAAAAUGGUCAUUUCGCAGAAGCUUUCUUUAGAUCUUCCACCUGGGAUCAUUUAAAACGAUUAAAACACACCUAAAAACAUGAUUUAAGAUAAAAAACUAAGAUCAAAAGUAUGGAAACAACUUGAAAAUUUACAAAAUUUACAAAAAUUUUGGACUGUGGUAAACCAUGUCCAGCAAACCCUUUUUUGCUUAGGUUUUUUGAGGCUCAAGGAGGUUGAUCUCCUCCUUUUCUGGUUUGAAUGGCUCCAUGAAUGGCUUGAGACGAUAUCCAUUGACUUUGAAGCUAUCCUUGCCAUUGGAAUUCAAUAAUUCCACCACUCCAUUGGAAUAUACUCGGUGAAUAAUGAACGGGCCUAUCCACCUUGACUUGAGCUUCCCAGGAAAGAUAUGGAGUCUUGUGUCAUACAGUAAAACUCUUUGCCCUUCCUGAAAUUCCUUGUUGGAGAUGAGUUGAUCAUGCCACUUCUUCAUCCUCUGUUUUGCAACUUUGGAAUUGAUAUAAGCAUUAUUUCUUAAUUCCUCCAUCUCAUUAAGGUCUAGAUAUCUCUUUUCUCCUGCCUUGAUCAAGUCCAUAUUCAGCUUCUUUAUUGCCCACCAAGCUUUGUAUUCAACUUCCACAGGGAGAUGGCAUGCUUUGCCAUAGACAAGACGAUAGGGAGACAUGCCAAGAAUAGUCUUAUAAGUUGUUCUAUAUGCCCACAAUGAAUCAUGAAGCCUAAUAGACCAAUCCUUUCUGUUGGAAUUCACCACUUUCAUCAAGAUGUUCUUUAUUUCCCUGUUAGCUAGCUCAACUUGCCCGGAAGUUUGAGGAUGAUAAGGUGUGGCCACCUUAUGCUUCACUCCAUACUUGGAUAAUAGAGCUUCAAAAGGUUUGUUGCAAAAAUGAGCACCUCCAUCACUGAUUAUGGCUUUGGGCACCCCAAAUCUUGAGAAUAUGUUCUCUUUAAGAAACUUGAGAACCACCCUGUGAUCAUUUUGUUUACAGGGGAUUGCCUCAACCCACUUAGAAACAUAAUCCACCCCCACCAAGAUGUAAGAAUUACCAAAAGACAUUGGGAAAGGUCCCAUGAAGUCAAUGCCCCAAACAUCAAAUAACUCAACUAUUAGAAUGGGGUUCAUAGGCGUUUGAUUUCUUUUUGUUAGCUUUCCAAGCCUUUGGCAUCUGUCACAACUCCUACACAUGAUGUGGGCAUCCUUAAAAAGAGAUGGCCAAGUAAACCCUGAUUGCAACACCUUCAUGGCUGUUUUCUGAGAGGCAAAGUGGCCUCCACAUGCAUUCUCAUGACAAUGAGAUAGAAUCCCUUGCUGCUCAUCUUCAGGGACACACUUCCUAAUAAUCUGAUUUGCACAAUACUUAAAGAGAAAGGGCUCUUCCCAAUAAUAAGAAUGAAUUUUGGCAAAGAAGUGCUUCCUAUCCUGUGCAUUCCACUCACUUGGAAUUUCACUAGUUACUAAAUAAUUAGCAAUAUGAGCAUACCAAGGAGUUUUCACUAGGAACAUGAGUGAUUCUUCAGGAAAAUCAUCAUUAAUAGGCAAGGGAUGGGAAUUAUGUGCUAUAACUAACCUUGAAAGGUGGUCAGCUACCACAUUCUCCACUCCUUUCUUAUCUUUGAUUUGAAGAUCGAAUUCUUGUAACAAAAGAAUCCAUCUAAUCAACCUUGCUUUUGCAUCUUGCUUUGUCAAUAAAUACUUCAAGGCUGAAUGGUCAGUAAAGACAAUGAUGAAAGACCCCACUAAAUAAGCACGAAAUUUGUCCAAAGCAAAUACCACAGCUAACAAUUAUUUCUCUGUAGUUGUGUAGUUCCUUUGAGCUUCAUUUAGUGUUUUACUUGCAUAGUAAAUCACAUAGGGCUUCCCAUCUUCUCUUUGGCCAAGCACAGCUCCUAUAGCAAAGUCACUGGCAUCACACAUCAGUUCAAAAGGUAAUUGCCAGUUAGGGGCUCUCACUAUUGGAGUUGUUGUUAAAAAUUUCUUCAGUUGAUCAAAGCUAUGCUGACACCUUUCAUCCCAUAUAAACUUAGCAUCCUUAGCUAACAGCUCACAAAGAGGUUUUGAAAGACUUGAAAAACCUUUUAUAAACCUCCUAUAGAACCCUGCAUGGCCAAGGAACUGCCUUACUCCUUUUACAGUUGUUGGAGAUGGUAAUUUGACAAUAAGCUCCACCUUUGCUUUAUCAACUUCAAUGCCUUUUUCAGAGAUGAUAUGGCCAAGGACAAUUCCUUGACGUACCAUAAAAUGGCAUUUCUCCCAGUUGAGCACCAGAUUUUUUUCAAUGCAUCUAUGAAGAACUGCUUCCAAAUUAACCAAGCAUUCCUAAAAUGUACCUCCAUAUACGGUGAUGUCAUCCAUGAAAACCUCCAUAAUUCACUCCACCAUAUCACUGAAAAUACUCAACAUACAUCUUUGAAAUGUAGUAGGUGCAUUGCAUAAACCAAAAGGCAUUCUCCUGUAAGCAUAUGUUCCAAAUGGACAUGUAAAAGUGGUCUUUUCCUGAUCUGCCAAAUCAAUUUCAAUUUGAAAAUACCCUGAAUACCCAUCCAAGAAACAAUAAAAUGGAUGUCCAAAGACUCUCUCCAGCACUUGGUCAAUAAAUGGCAAUGGAAAAUGAUCUUUCCUGGUUACAGCAUUCAGCUUUCUAUAAUCAAUACACACCCUCCAACCUGAAGUGAGGCGUGUAGUAACUUCUUUUCCUUUUUCAUUUUGAACCACUGUGAUCCCUGACUUCUUUGGUACCACUUGAGUAGGACUCACCCAAGGGCUAUCAGAUAUAGGGUAAAUGAUUCCUGCUUGAAGUAGCUUCAGCACUUCAGCUCGCACCACCUCUUGUAGAUGAGGAUUCAACCUUCUUUGAAAUUGACGAAUUGGCUUUGCUUCCUCCUCCAUAUAUAUAUGAUGAGUACAAACUAAAGGACUAAUGCCUUUCAAGUCAGAUAUUUGCCAUCCUAUUGCCUUCUUUCACCUCUUGAGAACUUCCAUUAAACAAUUCUCUUGAUGACUGGUCAGAGAUGAAGAUAUCACAACAGGACAUUGAUUAUUUUCUUCAAGAUAUGUAUAUUUCAGCUCCUAAGGUAAAGGCUUCAGAUUGAGUUUUGGAAUUUCUUUUUCAACAGCUGCCUCCUCUUCUUUAUUGAACAAAGGUAGAAUUUCUUCUAUCUUUCUCCAACUUUGUAGAGUAGCAAGCCCAAUAGGAGAUUCAUACAAACCUUCCUCAAAAUUCACAAGACUUUUAUUCAACUUGUCUUGCAUAUUUUGAUUACAGUGUUCCUCCACCAAAGUAUCAAUAAUGCACAGCUCUUUUGGACCCUCUUCUUCUUCCGGAGUGAUUUGCUUUUUAGACAUAUAGAAAUAUUGAGAUCCAGUGUCAUGUUACCAAAAGUGAGUUGCAUAAGCCCAUUCCUGCAGUUGAUGAUUGCAUUUGAAGUAGCAAGAAAUGGCUUUCCAAGGAUGAUAGGAACUAAAUUAGCUUUCUUUACGGUAGGAUCUGUAUCAAGAACAAUAAAAUCUACUGGAUAGUAGAAAUUAUCCACUUGAACCAAUACAUCCUCAAUUACCCCUCUUGGAAUUUUCACUGAUCUAUCUACCAGAGAUAGAGUGAUUGUUGUUGGCUUCAACUCUCCAAGUCCCAAUUGCUUGUAGACGGAAUAUGGAAGCAAAUUCACACUUGCUCCCAAAUCUAGCAAGGCUUUCUCCACUACCUUUCCUCCAAUCAUGACUGAAAUGGUAGGACUUCCAGGGUCUUUGUACUUCAAAGGGGACUUACAUUGUAAGAUUGCACUUACUUGCUCAGUCAAGAAGGCUAUCUUGUUUACAGUCAACCCUCUCUUGAUAGUACACAAGUCCUUUAGGAAUUUUGCAUACGUUGGAACUUGUUUGAUCAUAUCCAGCAGUGGAAUAUUGACUUUUACUUGUCUCAAUACUUCAAGGAUUUCAGCUGCAUUUCUAACCCCCUUUUUCCCAUGUAAUGCUUGAGGAAAAGGUGGAGAGGUUGAUUUCUUCAGCAUUUCUUUCUUCAUAAGUUCCUUCUCUGGAAUUACAUUCAUUGUUGAAUCAGAGUCCUUUUCUUCACUGAUCUCACUGUCUUUAUCUUCCAUUUCCUUCCCUUUCUUUAUCUCUUCUUCUUUCUCAACAUGUGGCUUGCGUGUUGGCUGCUCAAUUUUUUUACCACUCCUUAGAGUGAUCAAGGCUUUGACAUCUUUCAUCUGUGAUGAUUCUCCCUCUUGGCUUUCCAGUUCAUGGACACCUUUGGGAUUUUGGUGAGGUUGAGAAGGAAAUCUUCCCUUUUCUUUCAGUGUAUUCAAAUUUGUAAGCCUUGAAAUUGAAUAUUGGAUGUUAUCAAACUUUUAGUUCAUAUCAUUUUGCAUUCCAUCCAUCCUUUUAUUCAACAUACUCUCCAUUCUAUCCAUUCUUUGAUCGACUCGAGCAUUGGUGGCGUCUUGCUUUCCAAAAAAAUCUCCCACUACCUUAGUGAGAUUGGCUACUGCUUGUUCAAUACUUGAAGAUUGUUGAGAUGGUGGAUCCGGCUGUUGGUACUGAGUUGCUCUGGCCUUCCAUGAGAAAUUUGGAUGAUUCCUCCAACUUGAGUUGUAGGUAUUUCCAUAAGGCGCAUUGUUAUUGGGCCUGAAUUGUCCAACAACAUUUGCUUGAUCUCUAUACAUUUCCUUUUCAGCUGAAAUUGCAGGGCAUUCCUCCACCAAAUGUUCAUAUGAUUGACAAUUGGGACACAACUUCACUUGCACUGGUGCUUCAGCAACAGCUUGCACUUCAUGUAUUCUUUUCAGCUCCAGCUCCUCCAAUCUUCUUGUCAUAGCUGCCAACUUUGCUUUCAUAUCAUCAUCUUCUUUUAAGGUAUACAUCCCAGCCUUUGCAUUGUAAGCAUUCAACUGAGACUUCAUCUUUCCCACUUCUCCUUUAGUUGGUUCAUCCCAUCCCCUUGAAACAUCAGCUACAUAGUUCAAGAAAUCCAUAGCUUCCUCUGGAUUUUUGCUCAUGAAAUCUCCUCCACACAUUGUCUCGAGGAGUUGCUUCAUUGAGGAGGACAUACCAUCAUAAAAAUAGCUCACCAAUAGCCAAGUAUCAAAGCCAUGGUGAGGGCAAGCAUUUAUAGCUUCCAUGUAUCUCUCCCAACACUCAUAGAAUUUCUCAUUCUCUUUAGCUGAGAAGUUUGAAAUUUGCCUUUUCAAGCCAUUUGUUCUAUGAGUAGGAAAAAAUUUCUUGAGGAAUUCAGCUUGUAAAUCAGUCCAAGAACGGAUACUCCUUGGCCUUAAAGAAUUAAGCCAAAUUUUGGCCUUAUCCUUUAAAGUAAAAGGAAAUAACUUAAGCCUCAUCAAAUCAAUUGAAGCUCCUCCCUCUUGAAAUGUAUUACAAACAUCUUCAAAUUCCUUGAUGUGUGCAUACAGAUUCUCACUUUCCAUCCCAUGGAAAGUUGGUAGAAGUGGAACAAGAUACGGUCUGAUCACUAGCUGCUCUGUAGGGGGCACUAUACAUGAUGGUGCACUCAUACGAGGUGGAUGCAUGCAGUCCCUCAUUGAUCUGAAUUCAUUGAGAUUAUCUUGACGACCUUGGUGACUAUGCUGAUCUUCAGGUGUAGCUUCCAUGAUAUUCAAGAUCACUUCGAAUUCUUUUCUCUGAGGUGUAUCACACUUAACAAGCCUUCCUCCACUAUCUCGUAUCCACUUUGGCAUACACAACUAGUAUCUAUCUGCAACUAAAAAUGAAAACAAAAGACAACAAAAGAAACAGGGCUACAACAAUAAAAUUAAACUAGGCUAAAUUUUAAAAGAUAAACUUAGAUUAUGAAUAAAUAAAGAAAGAAUGAGAAUUAGUAAAGUGAAAGAAACUUUACCAACUUGUGAUGAAAAUCACAAGUGCUCAAAAAUGGUAUCAAUAUAAACUUGACAUAUUCCCCGGCAACGGCGUCAUUUGAUUCGUCCCUAGCAGCGGCAGUGGCAAUGGCACCAUUUGAUUCGGGGUUCGAUCCCCGGCAACGGCGCCAUUUGAUUCGUGCCCAAUUGGUAUCUCAGCUGAUUUGUGUCCAGCUGGUGCUCCUUGAUUGAGGGAGUAAUCAACAAAAUUUAUAACCUAUAACACCAUAUACUAGGGUAGCAAAGAAAAAGCUACUAUAGUAUAGUGGCUCUAGGAUCGUCCACUGGGAAAGAUUAACAAGCUCUCAUUGAUACCAAUUCCAAGUGAAUUGGCCUUGUUUCAUUUCAAGGUUAGCUUAAGAAGUAAAACACAAACUUUAAUUGGUAAAGGUUUAGACUUAAACUAACUAACAUAACAGAAGUUUGGAAUAAUUUAGGAAGAANNNNNNNNNNNNNNNNNNNNNNNNNNNNNNNNNNNNNNNNNNNNNNNNNNNNNNNNNNNNNNNNNNNNNNNNNNNNNNNNNNNNNNNNNNNNNNNNNNNNUUGAUUCGGGGUUCGAUCCCCGGCAACGGCGCCAUUUGAUUCGUGCCCAAUUGGUAUCUCAGCUGAUUUGUGUCCAGCUGGUGCUCCUUGAUUGAGGGAGUAAUCAACAAAAUUUAUAACCUAUAACACCAUAUACUAGGGUAGCAAAGAAAAAGCUACUAUAGUAUAGUGGCUCUAGGAUCGUCCACUGGGAAAGAUUAACAAGCUCUCAUUGAUACCAAUUCCAAGUGAAUUGGCCUUGUUUCAUUUCAAGGUUAGCUUAAGAAGUAAAACACAAACUUUAAUUGGUAAAGGUUUAGACUUAAACUAACUAACAUAACAGAAGUUUGGAAUAAUUUAGGAAGAAAAGCAUUCCCUGGAGAGUUAGGUUCACUGGGGUGGUUCCUCAUGCAAAAGACAUAGCUCCGGUCAGAUGAUUCAUUUCCUCGUGUUAGAGAUUCAACAUAUAGUCAAUUCUCUAACCGGUGUUGUACAGAGACUCCUUCAAUUAGAUUUCACUUUAAUUCUCUCACUGAUGCAACUUGCAAUGGUUUAAGCCUCUCACUAAGCCUUAACCAUUCAAGGUGAUCUUUAACCUUGGAUUACCCGUCAAAAGCUCGCAAGAGAUAACUAAUGGAUGUCUCCUUGGAUUCCAAAAGCUUAUCAAGUGUUGGCUAUUCUAGAAAAUCCUACCUUGAAGUCACCUCCCAGAGGCUCGCAAGGGGUAAACUAGUGCAUUUCCAUGGUUGGAAAUCACUUGCCUUACCAAGUGUUGGCCCAGGUGACUCUAAGGUGUUUUAAGUUAACUAAAAACAUAGAAAUCAUUAAAGGAUUUCACUUCCUCUUCAUUAAUAGCUAAAACCACAGAGCUUUGCAUUCUUGCACUUGGAACAUUCCCCGGCAACCUUAGCUCCAAGGAACUAGAGGUUUAAUUACUCAUUCUAUGGGGAAAACUCCCCAGAGAGUUCAUAACUUAGUAAGAAAAUGAAAAUACAAAGUGAGAAGGUAAGGCAGUAGAAAGAAAAUAAACUUUACUUGCUUACCCAAACUUUUACAGAAGGAACUCCUCCCUGAGAACAGGCUCCCGAGAGGUAUAUAUAUGUACAUAAUAUAAAACUAAUUAUUACAUAGAUAUUUAGUCUUUUUACUAACUUAAAAGCUAAGGAAUCAUGUAAUUGGUGAUUUACAAGGAGUAUUUUGGGAUUUAGACAACAAAAAUCUAAUGGAAAAUAUCUCCCAAUGUCAGUAGCAAAUAUCGGGAGGCUUCAGGAACCAUUUCGCAGGAGAAAAAUGGUGUCUACGAGAUUUCGCAGACACUUAAGAGGGCUGCGAAAUAAUUUCGCAAUACCAAGCUAUCUUCACAAGGCUGCGAAGAUGGCUUCCACCUUGAGGUUCCCAGCUUCCUUCUCGCAGCAUAAAUCGGGCAUCGUCAGAAGGAGAAACAUUACACUGUUCAAAAAGGCUGCGAAAUCACUUCGCAACAAAAGGGUGAUUUCGCAACACUUUGCAAAAUGCUUCCUUCAGCUCGGAGUGAUUGGCUUGUAAUGGCUGUAACUUCUUCGUUUCAACUCCGAAUUGCACACCGUUUGAAGCAUUGGAUUUUUGACUUCCUGAGCUUUGAAAUGGUAUAUAGUAUGCAUCAUUUGGACUUCAGAAAGUGCUCCAAAAGUGGCUGCUAUGACUGUCAUCAAGAAUAUGCUUUAUGGCAGAUUCUCUUUGCUUUUUCUCCUUGCAAUCCGGAUUUACUCUUGGAAAAUGACUUCUAAGCUUUGCCCAAGAUUCCUCAUAGCUCUCCUCAGUCUUGACUUGCUUUGGUAAUCAAAAUACUAAUAAAAACACCAAAACUUACACAAAGUGAUCAAAAUUGCUUUCAAGGGUCCUUAACAUGCCAAUUGAGUUAAAAGGCCAAAACUACUACUCAAAAGUGUUUAAAAGGAUUAAUUAUAAGCUAUCAAAUAGCACUUUUUGAGUAGUAAUCACUCUUUACCACUCCUCAAAGUGAUAACUGCUUUAACUUCCCUCACCUUUGAAGAUUCUCCCUCUUGAGUCUCCACUUCAUGGAUACCCUUGGGAUUUUGAUGAGGUUGAGAAGGAAGCUUUCCUUUCUCUUGCACUGUGUUGAGGUUGGUAAGCCUUGAGAUUGCGUAUUGGACAUUGUCUAUCUUUUGAGACAGAUCAUUUUGCAUCCCAUUCAUCCUUUUAUUCAAUGUACUCUCCACACUAUCAAUUCUUUGAUUCAAUUGAGCAUUAAUGGACUUCUGAUCUCCCACAAAGUCUCCCACAACCUUACUAAGGUUCACAAUAGCUUGUUUAAGAUUCGAGGCUUGCUGAGGUGCUUGAGCAAGUUGUGUUUACUGAGGUGGCUUUGGUUUCUAAGAGAAAUUUGGAUGAUUCCUCCAAUUUGAAUUGUAGGUGUUGCCAUAGGAAGCAUUGUUAUUGGGUUUGAAUUGACCAAUAACAUUUGCUUGAUCACCAAACAUCUCUCUCACUGUUGGAAUUGUAGGGCACUCCUCUACCAAGUGCUCAUAACAUUGACAAAUGGAACAAGGCAUAGCUUGCAAUGGUGUCUCAGAAAUGGCUUGAACUUCUUGUAUCUUCUUCAUUUCUAGCUCUUCCAAUCUCCUUGCUUUAGCUACAACCUUUGCCUUCAUGUCAAUGUCUUCCUUCAAAACAUACAUCCCACCCUUAGCAUUAGGUUAAGACUUCAUUCUUCCCACCUCUCUAGCAUUUGGUUCAUCCCAUCCUCUUGAAACUUCAACCACAUAAUUCAAAAAGUCCAUAGCUUCCUCCGGAUUCUUAUUCAUGAAGUCUCCUCCACACAUAGUUUCUAGGAGUUGCUUCAUUGAAGAAGACAUACCAUCGUAAAAAUAGCUCACUAAGAGCCAUGUGUCAAAGCCAUGGUGAGGACAAGCAUUAAUAGCUUCCAUGUAUCUCUCCCAAUACUCAUAGAAUUUCUCAUUCUCUUUAGCUGAGAAGUUUGAAAUUUGUCUUUUCAAACGAUUGGUCCUAUUAGUAGGGAAGAACUUCUUGAGAAACUCGCCUUGCAAAUCAGUCCAAGUAUUGAUACUCCUUGGCCUUAAAGAAUUAAGCCAAAUAUUGGCCUUAUCCUUCAAAGUGAAAGGAAAUAGUUUGAGCCUCAUCAAGUCAAUUGAAGCUCCUCUUUCUUGGAAUGUAUUACAAACCUCCUCGAAUUCCUUAAUAUACGAGUAGGGAUUCUCACUUUCCAUCCCAUGGAAAGUAUAUAGGAGUGGCACAAUGUGAGGUCGGAUUAGUAGCUGCUCAGUGGGAGGCACUAUGCAUGAUGGUGCACUCAUACGAGGUGGAUGCAUGCUGUCCCUCAUGGAUCGAUAUGCAUUGAAAUUAUCCUCUUAACCAUGUUGGCUAUUCUGAUCUUCAGGUGGAACAUCCAUGAUGUUUAAGCACACUUCCAACUCAGUUUCUCGAGGAGUUUCAAUCUUCACAAGUCUUCCCUCAAUAUCUCUUAUCCAAUAGGGCAUGCACAACUAGAGAUCACUGAAACAAAAACAAAGAAAAAAAAAAAGAAAUACAAUGUUGGCAAAAAAUUAAGGUUAACUAAAAACUAAAUAAAAGAUAAGGUAAAAUAUAGACAAAGAAAAAGAAUUAGUAAAAAUAAAAAUCACCAAACUUGUGAUGAAGACCACAAGUAUUCACCAAAAGUCAUGUCAAUGUAUUGUGGCACCAUCUCUGGCAAUGGCGCCAUUUGAUUCGUCCCCAUUGCAGUCAUGCCAUUUGAUUAUGGCUCAGACGGGUGUUAUCAACAAAAUUUAUGAAACCUAAAUCACCUCACACUAGGGUAGCAUAGCUAACAUAGUAUAGUGGCUCUAGGAUCGUCCACAGGGAUGGGUUUUCAUCAUACAAUUUACUUAAAUGAAGGAAAUAAAAUGGUGUUUUUUCUUAUGAAAGUUAGCUUUUAAAGAAAAUUGGAAUUAUGGUUGCAAAGAUUGAUUUUAAGUUAAGAAAAAACAAUAAGUGAAAUUAACUACAAAGAAAAGGGUCUCUUGGAGCUUCAGGUCACUAGGAUCGGGUUUCUUAGGCAAAGAAGGAGAUUCCGGAUCUUCUCCUCGUGUUGGGGAUAAUAACAUAAAAGAUGGUUAUCACCCGAACUGGUUUUAUAUUUAGCAAUUAAGAUUUGAUCCAAAGGUUUCAUGAGAAAUGGUAAUUGUUUCCCAUUAAUGGCUUCAAACACUAAAGACUUUCACCUUAAACCACCUUCCAAUAGCUCGUAAAUGAUAACUAAUAGACAUCCAUGGUUUUAAGAAUAAGCAUCCAUGGAAUCCGAAAAGCUUACCAAGUAUUGGCCAUUCAAGGUGCUUUUAAGGGAUUUAAAACUAAACCUUGAAAUAAAAACCAUUGAUGGUUAACAACUACUGUCAUUUCAAGCAAGGAUAACUCCCACCUUUGCAUUCAGGUCCUUCACCUAACUUUCAUCACUCCAAGAAACGGAAAACCUAACCACUCAUCCCCUGAGAAAUCAUCCUCAGAGGUUGUUUGGCUAGCAAGAAAAGUGAAAACAAAAUGAGAAUGAAAGGCAGAGCAAAAACUCUGUAUAUUUCUUAGUACGGGAAUUUACAAGUGUUUUAUGAAAAGCAUACAUAAUUUUUCAUCCCUCUAUCUCUCUCCUUAUAUAUAAGCUACCUAAAAGAUAUAAAAGAAAAUAUCUAGGUUGGUUACAAGGAGAAACUAGGAAAUUACACAAAAUAUCUGAAGAUAAAAAUCUAAUGGAGUCGGUGCAUAGGAAGAUUUCGCAUACCAUGCGAAAUUUGGCAUGGUGUACGAAAUUUCGCACAGCCAUGCGAAACUGCUUGUUGUUGGAUUUCUUCCUCUGGUUUUCUUCCUCGCAUCUCUAAUUGGCUUGGCAAAGGGCUAUGAAGUGCUCCAAAGCUUGGAUUCUUCAUGUAUUUGAGCUUUAUCUUGCAUUGCCAUGGAUUUCACCAUAUUCUCCCUCAUUCUUGGCUUGUUUCAAUGAUAAAAAAGCUACCAAAAGCACCAAAACUUGCCAAAAAUUGAUUAGUAACCCUUGCUAGGUUCCUUCAUGUGUCAAUUGAGUUAAAAGGUAUUAACUACUACUCAAAAGUGUUUAAAACAGUUAGUUUCAAGCUAUAAAAGAGUUCUUUUUGAAUAGUAAUCACUAGGUAAAAUUAAGCUACAGGUUUCUUAAUGGUAUCAAAUCCAACGUCUAAUUACUAGGAAUAAUGGUUAAAAUAACAAUGAUAGGUGCUUCCAAUUAUGAUAACAACUUGAAGGAGGCAGAUAGAAAACCUAUCCCUCAUUAGAAUUUUGUGACCAAUGGUCAUGGUCACUCUUCUUAGCUAAUUAUUUCUCAGAAAUUAACUUAAUGGAGAAAAUUAUCUUUAAUGGUCUCAAUUUGUCAAACCUUUCAUUCAUGGGCAUGGAAAAAUUGAAUAUUUUAUUAGAGCAACAUCAACACCACAAGGAACAAUUCUCAUCGAGACAUAGGAAGUAGAUAAUGCCAUAUUAUGUCAUGGCUGAUCAACUCAAUGGAACUCAAGAUUAGGAAGACAAACAUGUUCAUGGCCAUAACUAGAGAAAUCUAGGAGGCUACCAAGGAAACCUAUUACAACUUGGUAAUUUGCUUAGGUCCAUAAGAUAGGCAUACAAAUAAAAAAUACUAAGCAAGGUAAUAUGAAUGUAAUUCAGUACUAUAAUACACUUAAAACUCUUUGGUAAGAACUUAAUUUGUUCUAUGAUUAUGAAUAACAUUGUGCAUAAGAUAGUGAAAUGUUCUAAAAGAUGACGAGAAUGAUCGAGUAUUUGCAUUCCUAGUGGGGUUUAAAUAAUAAAUUAGAUGAGGUUUACCUCUUUACUUAAUAUUACCCUAGUUAUAAAAAACCAGUAAGCUUCAUAUUUUGCCCAAUGAUCCAAAAUUCAAAAGAAUUCAUGGAAGGCCUUAGUGUGACCAUCAUUUCCUCUAAAUGCUUCCAGAAUUCAAAAUAUUCAUUGACAAGUGAUUAACCAUCAUCUUUUCGAAAUGCAUCUUUAGAUGUCAAUACCCAAAGGUGUUCAAUUUCAUAAGAUAUUGACCAAGUCUAGAUAUUAAGAAGGUAUAUCAUCCUCUACCAUUAGAAAGAAGAAGAUACAUUAUCCUCACUUGUGAAAGCACAUAUGUCAUCAUCUCAACAAAUCAAACAUGCGUGCAAAUUUUUCUUCUUGGUCUUCUAAUUGUGGUCAAGCAAGUAUUAAUGAAGUACUUAAUUUGAAGCAUCUGUUUAUCAUCUAUAGUGGUUGUAGUUGCUAAUCCAAUAAUUACACUCCUUUGAAAGUGGUACAAAUUAUUCUUCCUUAUUCCUUGUAUCACCACAAGUUUACUUGGCAUAACUUUCAAAAUCCCAGAUUUUAUAGUAACAAUAUUGAACCCUAUGGGUUCUAAUACUCCAAUUGAGAUGAGAAACUUAUUCAUACUAGGAACAUACCAAACAUCACUCAAAAUUUUAGUUGAUUCAUCAUGAGUCUUCAAUUGGAUGGUAUCUAUUAUUGUUAUCUCACAAGCAUUAUCAUUCCCCAUGUAAACAACUACAUCUUGUAGUUCUUCAAAGCAAGAAAACCACUCCUUGUAAGAAUGCAUGUGAAGGUGGACUCAAUAUCCAAAAUCCAUUCAUCUAAGUUAUAAAACAAGGAUAAGCAAACCAAAGCAAAGUUUGACCCAUCUUCUCCAAACUUAGCCACACAAGCAUCGAAUACUAUUUAUUCUUUAUUCUUAUUAUGUAGCUUAGGACAAUCAUUAUUCUGACACUACCAAAACUUAAGUAUGGCUGACCCAUUUAUAUUUACUUUUCGGACAUAUUUAAGUUGACGCAAAUUUCUAACACACCUAUUCCAUCGCAAAUUGAAUUGUCCAUCGCUUAUAUGUAACUAUUUAUCAACAGUAAUUGCAACAACAAAUACCUGUCGACAAAAAUAUCAUUGCAAUGGAUUUAAACCAUUGCAAAUGUUCAACUAAUAUACUUUGUUACAAAAGCAAUUUACCUAUAAAAUAGGAAAAAAAAAGUGAACUUUCAAAAAUAAUUUUUUCUAUGAAAAUUACUACUCACUAAAAUAGUUUUAUUAUAGUGGAUAAUAAUACCACUCAUAAUUUGUUCCAAAAAUAAUUAUAGUCAUAUGAAUAUAAAAUCUUUUCACCAUAGUUGUAUGAUAAAUACGAUCUAGCUAGUGACAAAACAAUUUUAUGAUUAUUUUUUUAGGUUCAUACAAUAUUUACAUUUUUUUUAAUCAUAAUAGUUUUAACAUUGUAAUAUUUUUUAACUACUUUUUAUUGUCCAUUUUAGAAAGAAAUAAAUUAAAAAUUAUUGAUAUAUAUAUAUAUAUAUAUAUAUAUAUAUAUAUAUAUAUAUAUAUAUAUGUAUGUAUGUAUGUAUGAUAUAAUUUAUGAUAUCGAAUAAUAAUAUUGAAAAUUUAAAAAUACAUUUUAUAGAGAUUUAUCUAAUUGAAUGUAUUCAAUAACAUAAAAAAAAUGAUAGUACAUGUAUAAGUAUUUUUAUUUUAAAAUGUUGAUAAUUUUAUUUAUAAAUUUAUAUUUAUUUUAUAUUUAAUUAUUAUACAAAAUACACAAGAAUCAAAAUUAAUUAAUUUAUAAUAAUUUUAUUUUAAUUUAUUUAUAUAUAUAUAUAUAUAUUAACUCAUGCAUGUAUAAUUUAUAUAUAAUAUGUAUUUAUAUAUAGAUAAUAUUUAUAAUAUAAAUGCAUAAGUAUAUAAUAUUUACAUUUAUGAAUCUUAUAUACAUUCUUUAUAUUACACAUAACAAAGUUGACUUGAUGGCACAGUUGCUUCCUUUCAAACUUGAGGUCAAGGGUUCAAUCUCAAGAAACAACAUCCAAGCCAAUAUCCAAAACUAGCAAGGAGAGGAGUGUACAAGAUGCUCCAUGUGAAUGUAAUGAAAUCGAAAUUUCAUGACAACCUAAAAUCUUUUAUUAUUUAUAUUUCUCAACCAACUUAAUUUGUUGGUAAUAGUGAUGGUCUAAAUCCAUUGGAUAGUUUGUUGCUAAAUAUUUUUUAUUGGCAACGGAAAAUUCCCAUCAAUAGACUUUUGCCAACACACCUUUCCUCUCCUACCAUGCGAUGGGAUUAUCGAUUGGUAAAUGUUUAUUUCGACUAUGUAUAUUAGCCAAGAAAAGUCAAAUUUCUUGUAAUGCGAUGACCCUUGUCAUGAAAAAAAACAUAUUCAUCUUUUGCAAGUAUACAUUUAAAUUAAGAAUUGUCUUAUUUUCUAGGUUUUCAACUUUGAGAUUAGUCAUUAACUGUUAAAGCUUCCAAUGAUAUAUCUCUAUGAUCGCUUUGGUCCUUCUUCCUUUAUUUAGAGCUUAGAAAAGUGGAACACACAACAUCGAAAGUAAUCUUAUCCUUACCAGAAAGUAAGGUGAUGGUAAGAUUUUCAUACACAUCAAGAAACAAAUUCAAUAACAAUAAGGCCUUAUUCUCAUCUUCAAUGAUCUCAUCUAAAUUCAACAAAUUUGCUAUGAUUCUAUCAAAUGCAUGCAUAUGAUCAUUCAGAGACAUAUCUAGUUGAUACUAGAAGCAAAAAAGUUUUUUCUUCAAAUAUAGUUGAUUUUCUAGACCUUUUUUCAUAUACUUGUCUUCCAAUGACUUCCAUAAAUGUUUUUGUGGAUAUCUCUUUCAUAAUGGAAUAAUUUUAAGCUUUAACAAGAUAUAUUGGAUGGAACUAUAAAAUUGACUAUUGAUCCCUUACCCAUUUUUUAUCAUUCAUGUUUUCAAGUUUUUCUUCCAAAACAAUAUCCAAAUCCUAUUGACAUAUCUAAUUAAUGCCUCUUACUACCACAUUCCAAAAGUACUAGUCCUAUCAAAUUUCUCUAUUACAAAUUUCGCAUUAGUAACCAUAGUUUUAACUAACGAAGUUUUUACCUUUUCUUUUAACUAGUGCAAUAACAAAUAACCUUGAACUAACCUUGAAACCAACCUUGGAUAGGACUAAUGCUCUUAUACCAUUUUGUUGUGCUUUAACCUAAUCCCACAAGACUUCCAAAAGUACCAAAUAAAAUACAAACUAAACUAGUCCAUAAUAUAAAGAGAAAUAUCAAGAGAAAUAAAAAUAAAGGAGGGUACACAAUAUUUAUGAGGUUUAGUAAGGACAUCUUACCUAUAUCAUUGGACAAUGAUGAUCAAUCCACUAAUCUUCAAAUCAAAAUUACAAAAUCAAGUUGGGAAAGAUUGUCUCACAAAGUGGCUGCAAUUACAAAGAUUGACUGAAGCUACUCUAACAACUUUCCUAAAGUCAUUCUCUCACUACUAUGAUGAAAAGACUUAAGACUCAUUUAUAGAACCUAAAUAAGUCCCCGAUCCUUGACAAAACUAAUUCAUAAUUCCUAUGGGACAAGGACUCAUAACAUAUAACAAAUUAUGAAAUCAUAAUCCUUAUAGGAUAAAGAUCCCUAAAAUAUAUUAAGCUCUUAAUUGAGCUAAAAGGCAAUACCUAAUAUAGAACCCAUAUCAUAUUUUCCAUAACUAUACUAAAUAGAUGGUUGUUAAGCAGAAUUAUCACUUUCAAAAGUUAAAUAAUCAUUUAUUUUUCCUUCCCUUUCCAUUUUUCUUAUCAUCCAAACAACAACAAUAAAAAAUUGAUGCGACUCAUGGUAGCUUAGCUUUAAAGGCGUAUCAACAAAAUUUAUACCUUAAAUACUAUUACUAAAGUAGCCAAGCUACUAUAGCAUAGUGGUUCUAGGAUCGUUCACUGGGAAGGGUUUUCGCGAACACAAGUGAUAUUCAAAUUAGGAAAAUAGGUGAUUUUCUUAUGGAUGUUAGCUUUAAAAGAAGAUGUAAAUGUUUUAGAAAGAUUUAAACUAAUCUAAGCUAACAUUAAAGACUAAAAUGAAAGGGUGUAAAAACAAGUUUCUCAAAGAUAGGAUAGCUAUGCUCUGGCUCUUAUGCAAAUUGGAAAUCUCAGGAUAGGCUCUUCGCUUUGGGGUUGCAACUAUGGUGAUGCUUGCUUCCCGAACCGGUAUGGAUUUAGCAAAUCAAGUUUUAAUCCUUUAAAAUGGCAAAACAGAUGGUAGUGAAUUUCAUCAAUGGUUAUUCACCUUAGACUUCCUUUGAAUGGCUCGUAAGAGAUAACUAAUGGUCUAAAGCCAAAAGCUUACCAAAUAUUGGCAACUCAAAGUCAUUCCAGGUGAUAAACUCACCUUUCAAUGACCAUUGAAAUUGGUUCUUAACGGAUUAAUGCAAAACUUGGAAUUGAAAACCUCACCUUCCAAUAGCUCGUAGGAGAUAACUAAUGGAUAGAAAUCCAAAAGCUUAUCAAGUAUUGGCCGUUGGAAGUUGUCCAAAGGAAAUAAAAACCAAACUUUGCAUUAUUGAACCAUUAAUGAAAAACGACUACCUUACCUUCCAAGUGCGAGAAAUUUCCAUGGGAUUGCAUCCAAGCCAUCACAUAACAUCCAUACUUUGAGAAACUAAAAGUUUUAGCCAAUCAUCCUCUGAGGAAAAGUCCUUAGAGGCUAUUUGGCUACUAAGAAAAUAAAAAUGGGGAAAAACAGGAGAAGAGAGAAAAACAGAGCUUUAUAUAUUUCUAAGUUAAUGUACAGAGAAUCGAUCCCCCCAAUCUCCAAUCUUUUGGAGGCGUUGUGCACCUCUAUAUAUAGCAAAAUAACAAGAUAAAGCCUUAUGUCAGCUGAAUACAAGGUUACAAAAGGAAUUUACACGAGAAAAUAUCAAGGCUAAAAAUAUCUGGGAAGUCGGUGGUGCGUGCAUGGAGAAACAAAGGAUUUCAAAGGCAUUUCGUAAGGUGCCUAAAUCCACCUUGCGAAAUUUCGCAAGGUUCUUUCUUCAUGGUGCGAAAUGGCCAAAUUUCGCACCAUGAAGAAAAUCUCCUUGCGAAAUUUUCGCAAGAUGAAAUUCACCUUGCGAAAUGGUGUUCCCAUGGCUUGAUGCAGUUGUCUUCCGAAGGCCAUAUCUUCCUCAUUUCAGCUCCAAAUCGUACACGGUUUAAAGCGUUGGAUUCUUGACUUCCUGAGAUUUGAAAUGGUAUAUAACAUGUAGAAAAUGAACUUCGGGAAGUGCUCCAAAAGUGCGAAAGGAGAUUGCAGCUGCUGUCCUCUAUUUUCUUCACUCUGUUUUCCUCUUCUCCAUUGUUCUUUCCUUGCAUACUUUGAACGACUUUGGCAAAGGGCUAUGGAGCUCCAAAGCUUGGUUUGUUUGUGCUCGUGUUUCCACUUGAAAUUUAAGCCUGUAAACUUCCAAAAUCCUUGCUUUAACUUGUCUAAGUAGCUCCUCCAUCAUUUGGCAUGCUUGAAUCGAUUCAUAAGCUGAUAAAAACAUGUAAACUUGCCACAAAAUGGUUAAAACCAAUUACUAAGGACCUUAAUGAAUUAAUUGGGUUAAAUGAAUAUGAUUACUACUCAAAGGUGCUUAAAACCAUUAUAAUUAGGUCUACAAAAUAGCACUUUUUGGUAGUAAUAAAAAAUGUAGUGUAACUUUUGUUACUUUGCUACUUGUUCUCUCAAGUUACUUGCCUGCUUGUGAAUGAUCUCUAUAAUCAAAGUAAAUGGAGAAAUAAUGUGGAGUUCCAAGAUAUAGGUAGAAAAGAGUGGAUAAAAACCCUAGUUCUACAAAAUAGUUUGCAAUUUUGUCUUUAGAUCUCUCAUUUUCGUGGUAAUGGCCAUUGAAGAUGUCAUCACUGACAAUAUCACAAAGUGAAGAAGGCAUGACUGAGGGUUGGUAGAGUAGAGAGUUAAGGUAGAAAAUAGCAAAGAUAUGAUUUUGACUUUUUUAGAAUUUGUAAAUAAAAAAUAAAUACAAUCGAAAAAUCACUUUCAGAACAUUAGGUUGAAUUAAGGCACAAGAAAUGGCUACCACAUGUAUGCUAAGUGAAAUAUUAGAGUGUUUUUUUUUUUUUGUCAAGGUUAAGGAUUUGAGUAACUAAAGCCUCAAUAAAGUCUUUGAGGUAUCCACUAAGGAGCACAAGAAGUGCUGCAUGGGGGCGUGGAAGAAGAAUGUAAGUUACGUGUAUUUUGUAUUUAUAUUUAGUUGAUUGUUUGUGGUUGACAAACUAUUCAUGUAAUGACUUGCUCCCAACCAUGUAGAUAUUGUCCACUUUGGACCCAAAGGGGCCCUCACAACUUUAAAAUGCCUCUACAGAGUUAAGAAAAGUCCAUACUUAUAUAGCGCUAAGAACUUUCCCUCCUAUCAGAUGUGGGAUGUCAGAAACACCCUCUUCCCCAUGUAGACACAAUGUCCUCGUUGUGUCCCACGGGAUUGCAGGGCCAAACAAAUGAACACCCUUAUGGGGCUAAACAAAACCCGAACCGAGGUCGAAGAAUGACUUUGAUACCAUUUGUAAUGACCCGUUCCCAACCGUGUAGAUAUUGUCCGCUUUAGACCCAAAGGGGCCCUCACGGCUUUAAAACACAUCUACUGAGUUAAGAGAAGUCCAUACUUAUAUAGCGCUAAGAACUUUCCCCCCUAUCCAAUGUGGGAUGUCACAAACACCCCCAUCCCCCACCCCAUUAUAUAAAUGUAUAUUAUUAUUAUUAUUAUUAUUAUUACUUUCAAAAGACCCUACAACACCAUUACUCCAAGCCACCAACUACACCCAUUAUUUUUUGUUAUAAUAAUUUUUUUUUCUUUUGUUUCUUUCUUCUUGGACGUCCACACGCAUCCUUUAUUUUAUUUUAUUUUUUCUGCUUUUUCUAUGACAUCUCAUAUCGGAUAGGAGGAAGUUCCUGGCAUUGUAUAAGUAUGGACUCCUCGUAACCCUGUAGACGCGUUUUAAAGCCAUGAGGGCUUCUUUGGAUCCAAAACGAACAAUAUCUACACGGUUGGGAGCGGGUCGUUACAAAUGGUAUCAAAGCCAAUCCCCAACCUCGGUGUGGGGUUUGUUUGGCCCCGUAAGGGUGUUUGUUUGUUUGAACCCACAAUCCCGUGAGACACAACGAGGACGUUGUGUCUGCAUGAGGGUUGUUUGUGACAUCCCACAUCAAAUAGGGGGGAAAGUUCUUGGUGCUAUAUAAGUAUGGACUCCUUGUAACACUGUAGACGCAUUUUAAAACUAUGAGGGCCCUUUUGGGUCCAUAGAGGACAAUAUCUACACGGUUGGGAGUGGAUCAUUACAAAUGGUAUCAAAGCCGAUCCCUAAUCAUGGUGUGAGGUUUGUUUGGCCCCGUAAGGGUGUUUGUCUGUUUGACCCCACAAUCCCGUGGGACACAACGAGGUCGUUGUGUCUGCAUGGGGGUGGGGUGUUUGUAACAUCCCACAUCGGAUAUGGGGAAAAUUUCUUGGUGCUAUAUAAGUAUGGACUUCUCAUAACCUUGUAGAUGCAUUUUAAAGCUGUGAGGGCCCCUUUGGGUCUAAAGCAGACAAUAUUUACAUGGUUGGGAGCGGGUCGUUACAAUUCAUGGAUUUUACACCCCAAAAGGUUUUAAGUGGUUUUUUCAUGUUACAUUUUGUGUCAUAUGUUUGAUUGAUUAUUCCUAUUCAAAGAAUUGAUGAAAACUUAAUUAUAAUUGAUAUAGCUAGGUGUUUAGGAAUGUUUCUGUUUAAAGUGCUUUUAAUUUAAUUGUUUUUUUUAGAAGCAUUUUUUUAAAGAAUCACCUCUCAAGAGCUUCUCCAAAAAGCAUUACAAGUGAUUUUUAACUUUUUAAAGAAUGUUUUCUAAGUUUUUCCAAGUGUAUAGUUUUUCUCUAAAAGCAUUUUUUUUUUAAUACCAAAAGCAUUUUCUAAAAGUACUACUAAAUGGACUCUUAACUUUUGAGGAUAUUUCACUUAGACAACCCAUUCACCCCGCUCACUAUAUAGUUUUAUGUCUCAAGAUAAAAGUUCUCUCCUUUAUUUUAACAUAAUCUUUGUUUGAAGAAUUGUUCUAAUUUUUACUUGACUUUUGUUUUUAAUAUGUCUUCCUAAGCUUUUAAUGAUCCCAUAAAUUGGUCAAUGGCUAUAGAAUCCAAAUAUUUAGGCUUUUCAAUAACAAAAAAAUAAAAGAUGAAAACUUUUUUUUUUAAGUUACACAAAUAUCAUUAAACUUUCACCAUUUAUUUUUACUUAAUUUACAUAUGUCAAUAUUUUUGAAAAAUAAUCAAAGAUUAUCUUAUAUUUAAACUUUAAAAUUCACUUUUAAAAGUAUGAAAUUGAACUUUUAAAAAAAACACUUAUCAACACUUUUAUAUUUUUUUGUAAUAUUUUUCAUGUUUCCUUUGACAUGGUUGCACUUAAAAUCAUUUCAAAGGUGUCUACAUCUAUUUCUUAAUAAAUGAGGUUAAAAGCCUUCUUGUCUUUCUUUCUUAUAUCUUCGAAAAUUCUAUUUAAUUUUGGGAUAGAUUGGUUUUAUCCUAUAGCUCCUUGUAGUUUUUCUCUACAAUCUCUUAUAUAUCUUGCAACCAAAUAAAACCUUUGUCUUGACAUUCAAAUCGUCAAAAUUGUUAAAACUGUCUUUAUUGAGUUAAGCAACCUAAUUGAAUUACACGUCUUUUGAAAAAUAAAAUAAAAUAAGAAUCCUAUUAUACGCCUAAAUUUCGUGAAAGUCUUGCAACAUAUAAGGGGUAGGCCUUGAAGUUACAGUGACAAUUUAUUCCACUCAAAAUUUUGAUCUCUACAUUGAUAUCAUGUUUUUUUUUUUUUUUGGGGAGGGGGGGGGGGGGAGUAAUAGGGAUAAAUACACAAAUAAUAGUACUAUUAAAAGAGAUAAAUAGAGGAGGAAAUUAAAAGAAAUUUAUUGUGUUUUUAAUACUUUAAUUGAAGUAUUAUAUACACAACUCUAACUACAAUAUGUUUUAAUUCACUUUUAAAAACUAAAUCAAAUGUAAUUUUUGAAAAUUUCUUGAAACUCAAAUUUAGAUUUCAACGUGUGAUUGAAUGAUAGGGAUGAUAAAAAAUAGGUAAAUAAAACAUAUGUAAUAUUAUUGUAUAGUAUUAAUUGCUUCCAUACCAUUAGCAUAUCAAUGGCAUAUUGCCAUAUUCACAUGAACUGACUUUUUGUUUGGAGUAGUGUUUUAGUAGAGUAUUCGUAGUACACCUAGAUAUAGCCUAUGGGUUGCAUUAAUUAAUGGUUUUGGCCCAACUUAACAAAAUUCUAUGCUAUCAUAAAGUAGCUGAAUGCCCAUGAUUGCGCAAUGCCAUCAUAAAGGAACUGAAUGCCCAACACACAUACAUGUGAGGUACCAUAUUUUUUAAGAAAGACAAGUCGGUUUGCAAUUGAUGUUAAUAUCUUUCCAAGGCAGAAACAUCAUUUUGUAGGUAUAAUUGAAUUAGUUAAACUUAAACCCCAAUUGACAUUCUUUCAAGUAAAAUCAUUUUUAAUCUAUAAUACUCAACACUUUUAUGAGAACAAUAAAAGUAUCAGAAUCAUAGAGAAUUAUUGAAAGUGAUUUUGUAGUGUUGUUGAUAAUAUGUACCAUGACUAUAAAAAUGCUUUUAAUAUUAGUAAAUUAUCAAAAAGGACAUCAAAUUUAAUUACAAGGAAAUAUUAUAAUAAACUAAUACUUUUUCAUGAUAAAAGAAUAUAUAAACAUUUAUAGUAAAAUAAUAUAUAAACAUCUAUAUUACUAACGAAAACUAAAAAAUAAUAGUUGUUGUGAUUACAAGAAAAUUUUAGAAAAUAUUUGCAACAUGAUUUGGAUUAAUAAACAAACAUCAAUCAUAAUAUAAUAAUUUUUAAAACAAAAAAAAAAUCAUUUGAUUAUUUAUUCACUUAAAAAUAAUGAUUUUUUAUUACUACAAAAUUUUGAAAAAUACUUACAAAAAAUCUAGAUUAAUAAUGAAAAAUUGAAUAAAAACAUAUUAGUUUAGUUUCUAAAAAAAAUUAGUAAUUAAAAGCAAAUGAGAAGACAAAUUUUCUCAUAGUAAAAAAAGGAGAAAAUUAUUUAUUUUUUUCAUAUUAGUGUUAAAAUAAAACAUCAACAAGAUAUAUAACGACUAGCAAUUCGAUCACAUUCUUCAUACAUCUCUCUUGCAUGAUAGAACUGUCUUUCUCAACUCAUGAAUCCACUCUACUCUGUUUUUUAUUAAAGCAGAUGUAACCCUUGAUUAUCAUUAUAAGGUUUAAAUUUCAUAUCUAUCCUAGCAUUAAUCAUUAUUAAGUUGUAAAAACCAUCAAAGUAAUAACAAUGUUGACUUAUUUUUCAAGAGGAAAACUAUGCAUUUCUCAUAUUGUUCCACAUCUAUUCUUCAAAAAGGCAAAUGUUCAAUUGUUCUCCUCAAAGAUGUCUAUGGUUAAAUAUUUCCUUCUUACCUCUUGGUAAACUACUCCAUUGAAAUCUAGAAGAUGGUAACACUCGCCCUUUAAGGGCCUAAUUAUAUAUCCACUCAUGUAAGGAUAACCAACAUUGAGUAAAUAAUAUUUACCUACAAAACGAAAAAAAAAAAUUAUGUAAGAUUAUGAAAAUCUAAUCACAAAAGUAACUUUCAUAUUUUUAGUCACAAAUCUCUAGAAGGAUGAGGAAAACCCAAUGCUAGCAUUUUUUUAAUGCCUAUGAAAAGACUCAUGCAUCAUGAGCAAAACCUUCCCAUCUAGCCAAUGCGAAUGUGAAAUACAUAUUGAAAUAAUAUAUGACCAUAAUAUUUUAGGUAGUUAUGCUUUUUGUAUCAAUAUAUGAUAUUUGCCUAUAUCUAAAAACCAUAAUGGGCAUAUGAGUUCCAUCAAUUACCCCUAUACAAUUCUUAAAAUAUGGUCAAUAACGUCCAACAUUUCUUAUUUUAUCAAGGAUCUCCCUAAACUAUGAAUCACUUGGUUUUAUAAUAUCCAUAGCUAUAAGACAAACAACAUCUAAUAUAAUCUCAAACCAUCUAGAAAUAAAUUCAUUGGAGUGCUAAAAUCAUUCUUAGGUCGUCAUGUUGCCAAGUCUAUGACCCAUUGUAGUGAGAAACAUUGCUAAAGCCUCUAUUAAGGGCAUAUUUAAACCUUCUCUUAGACCAUGCCUUUUAAUAAGAGUUUCUAAUAAUUAAUGCAUACAUGUUUUUCCAUUCUAAAUUGCUCAACUCUAAUUUUGAAAAAGUACUACAAGGUUUUUAUUUUUUGUAGUUAGUAAGUGUUAUAGGUACAACACAUCCAACCAACACCAAUUGAUAAAAAUCAUUUCACCAUUGCUUUCAUCUUUAAUAUUGUGAUUGCAACUAUUAUUAUAACUAGAAAACAUAUAUACAAAAAAUAAAAAUAAGAAAUACAUUAAAAAAAACUAAUAAUGUAUAUUUUAUGUUAAUAUAGCUUAAACUAGUUCAUGUUUACUAAAAUAAAAGGAUUUUUUAUUUAAAAAUUUAUUUGAACAUGCAAAUUCAAGAGUAGUAGUAGUAUGCAAAAUAAUAGCACUGAAAAGUAGUAAGAGUAGAAAUACAUGUAAUCAUAUAAUUCUAUUUUUCCAUAAUAAUAAUAAUAAUAAUAAUAAUAAUCUAGCUCAUGUGGGUCACCCUAGAAUAGGACUCCUCCCAUAACACCCCUAUUUUCAAUCCAUUUCUAUUCUUAAUAGUUUGACUAAGCAAAAUUUUAAAUUCAAAAGUGUUGUGUUGAGAAAUCAAAUACAUUACAAAGCUCAUCUAAUUAGGAACUUGACUGAGACAAAAUUUUAUAUUCAAAAGUGUUGUGUUGUGAAAUCAAAUACAUUAUAAAGCUCAUCUAAUACUUACAACUUUUAGAGAAAGAAACAAUUAAAUAUACCAUGUGAUAGACAUAUAUGUAUUCCUCACUCAAAAAGUUUACUCAAUACCAACAUACAAAUCUAAUUUAAAACAAUAUUAGGUAGCAAAUUAUGUUUCAACAAUAGAAUAAGAAAUAACUCAAAUAGUGAAACAUAUUUCUGCUUAUUUCAUGCAAUUUGAUCAAUUGAGUUUUCUAAUGCUAGAAACAUCUCCUUAUUUCCCUUGACAACUUGAAUAACUAUGACUUUCAUGUACAACUUAAGGUCAUUCUUCACUUCAAGCAUGCCACAUAUAACUUUUAUUACUUUAGCAAUGCUAUAACCAAGCUUAUCUACUCUAGAUGUAACUUUAAAAAUGGCCUCUAACUGCAUAGUAAAAACACAAGAUUUGGUUCCAUCUCUUAUCUUCUUUCUUCUUCUCUCAUUUUGCUGUGAAAUUUAUUUCCUUGGGGUUCUCCUACAAAAGUAUUCAAUUUAUUAUAUUUCACGACCAAAAUAUAAAUUAAGUAAAUAAACUUAGUAAAUAAAUUAAAAUGUAUCUUCAAUUUAUUAUUCCCCCCAUUCAUUUUUAGCAUUAGUGGUUUGCCUCAUAGGAUCCCACCCAAGGCCAAUCUUUUUUUGAAUCAAGGCAUUCCAAAUUUGUCAAUCUUUUUUAAUAGAACUUAAUAUAUUCUUAGGUUUCUUAUAUUGGUAGGUUCUUCUAGGUAGAUUGUUGAAUACCUUUAUCACUUUUUUUCCAUCCAAUUUACUAAAGUGACUAUUUGGUCUAUUUUUAGCCAAAAUCUUAGCAACACAAACUGUGAGAUAUGCAUUAACAACAAUAUCAUUCAAUAUACUUUGCUUUAUUGAUCAUUUUCUUUACCACUUGUUUGUUGUAGUGGUUGAACUAUAUUGCUAGACAUCUAAUAACAAAGUAAAGAACAAAGAAGUAUUAAAAGCAAAUGUUGUCAAUGUACUUUUAUAUUUUAUAGUUUAGACAUCUAAUGAGACCCAUAAAAAAGUGAACCUUAAAGAAAUGGGUCAACUAGAGGAAAAUGAAUCUCGGAAUACUGAAUAGGAAAGACUCACAUUGAUGGAAUAAAUUAAUAUACUAUAUUGUAAUUUUAUUAAUUCUUUUCAUUAGGUUGCUAAAAGUUGAAAAAGAAUUUCUCAUGAAACGGAUUAAAUAAUUUCCUAAUGAAAGAAUCCAAUCAUGGCCUCUUUAUGAAGUACUGAAUUAACUCGAUGAACUUAAAUAUCAUCUAAUAAAUUCUUUCAUGGUUUGUUUUUAUAACUUUAAUGUUACCAAUAUAGAAAGAAAUGAAACAUGUUUUAAAUAAUCUAAGAAACUAUGGUAGAAAAGUGGAAAGAUUUAAGGAUAAGAGGCUUUAUAUGAACUUUAAUAUUGUUAGUAACAGAGAGGCAAAUGAGAUAUCUCAAUAUUAAAUUAUGCAUAAUUAGUAUAAUUUUUUUAAAAUAAAUGAAAGAGAAUUUAGGAGCAAAAUAAGUAAUUAGAGUAUGAGAUAACAUGAAUGGUUAAAAUUGUCAAUCAUUUAAUUUAAGAUAAUUGUUAAUAUUUCACUACAUUUUCAACUCCAUGAAUUAAAGCAAAUGGAGGAAAUGAGUUGGAUUUCUUAAUAGUAUUAAGUUUUGGAUUGACACAAAAGUAGGGUGCUAGUGGACACUUGAAAUGAGGACCAAGUAACAAUUUCAGAUAGCAUUUUACUCAUCCAACAUAGUUAAAAUUUGCAAAACCCACUUCUGAUUUCGUACUUUUAUUGAAUAUAUGGGUAUAGUUUAACUUCAAAUCUAAUAUGAGUGUACUUUGAAUUUCCUAAAGCUUACAUAUUUAUUCACAUAUUAAAUCAAAGAGAAAAUAUUAACGUUUUUUACAAUUACAAUUUAUCAGGACUCAAGGUUUAAUUCCUAAACUUUUAAAGUGGGAAAAAAAGGUGUAAGGGAGAAAAAAGGAAAAGGAAAAUAAAGGAAAAAAAGAAAAAAGAAAAAAGAAAAAACUAUUAAAAGGCAUUACAAGCCUAAGAUGGGCAUAUCCAUGAUUGAGGUGCAAAUGGGGGUGACAAUUCAUGUUAGUGGAUAGUGUUUGUGUUGUGUCAAAGCCUAGGUAUUCUACUACAUAGCUCAACCCAACCCCAACACUACUAAUAAUCAUAUAAAAAAUAUAAACCUAAAUACUAUCUAAUUAUUAAACAAGUAACACAUUGUACAACCCGCUUAAUCUAUUUAAUAUUCAGGUUCUGCUAUUUAAUAAUCAGAUUAAGUUAGGUCUUCCAUAUGUCUAUAUGAUUAAUAUCUCAAGAAAAGAUGUUUUUGGCUCAAUUGACCUAUCUAUUUAGAAAUAAAUUUAAAAUGAGUCAAAUAUGGGUCAAACGUCUUAAAAAUAUAAUUAAGUUAAUAGCGAGAUUAUUAAAUAGGUUAAUUCGAGUCAAAUUUGUGUUAUGCAAGUUGACCAAAAAAGUACUUAUUUAUUAAAUGAGUUAUGUAAGUCGACACAAAUUUUUUCUAAUCUCAUUUAUACUUGACCCAAACCCAUGAAAAGCAUGUUAGGUUUGUGUCAUGCCGAGAAGUAUCAAACUUUGUCAUCCCUAGGUGCAAACAACUCUAAGACCCUAUUUUUAAGGAGAAUAUAUAUACUUGAGAUUGCUACAUUAUUUAGACUAAUCCACACCUACUUAUUAAGGGGGAAAAAUAAAAGAGGAGAAAGAUAGGGCACAGGAUGAUGGGACAAGGCACAAAAUGACAAGACGUAGGAUGGUAGGACGUAGGAUGAUAAGAAUCCACUUCAAUUAAUAUUUCCAUAAAUCAAGAGUAAUCAAAUAUUAAAAUAUUUUAUUCUCCUAAUUUAGGAUAUAAUAUUUAUUCUAAAUAAAUAAAGAGCAAUCAAAUAUUAAUAAUAUUUGAUUCUCUUAAUUUAAGAAAUAAUAUUUAUUUUCCUUAAUUUUAGGAUGUUUAUUAUUUAUUUCUUCUAUAAUUCACAAUGCAUUCUUGUAUAAAUUUAUGAAAAGAAAUAAUAAAAAUUCAUCGCUUCUAUUUUCAAAUUAUCAAAUUCUUCUUGGUAUUAGAGUUAGAGGAGGAGACUCAAACUUGGGUUUUCUCCAAAGGUGGUUGAAUACCCUAAAAGACUUGACCUAUCCACACAAACAAUGUCUUCCUCUUCAUUCAUUCAUUCAAAAAUAAAAUAAAAUAAAAUAAAAUCCUUAGUGCUCUAGCUUUCCAUCAACAUUUUUUCUAAUUUGAUUUCAAUCAAGCUAAACACAACAAAUUUUCUACUAUGGGAAAAUCAAAUCAUCCUCUUAGUUUGUGGCUUCGGUGUUCGAACCUUUCAUCAGUGUUUUACCCUUUCAUUCGUGUUAUUUCUAGUUUGAUUUCAAUCAAGUUAAACACCAUAAAUUUUCUACUGUGGCAAAAUCAAAUCAUCCUCUUAGUUCAUGGUGUGUUCUCCAACAUCUCUUAGGUGGAGAAAGACCCGCUAAAGAAUUAAAGAUGACGAGGAAAGAAAAAGUUUUAUCCUACAAUACUAGUAAUCAAUUAAUAAUAACAUAUUUGUCACUUCAUGAGUUCUCAAAACCAUGACAAAAGACAUUUUCAUUAUGAUCCUUGGGGCUAACAAGAUAUAUAAGGUAUAAACUUCUCUUAAGGAGUAAUUGCUUCCUAUUAUAGUUGAAAAAAAAAAUGAUCUCUUCAAGAAUAUUUAAGAGAUUUCAAAAAUAUAUAUGAUAAUCUCAUGACAAUCAAAAGCUAAUUUUAGACCAAGACAAAGUUUGUUGAUUCACUCAUGGUUUAGGAUAAUGGAAUGAUUUUUUUUUUUUUUUAACCUACUAUGCUUUUCUAACCAAUUCAUGGCAACUCUUUAGGGACAUAAGCAAUUACUCACCACCAAAAGGAUGGAAAGAAAAUUUUUAUAGAGUAUGCACAAGUUUUUAUUUGGACAACAUAGUUAUGGUCAUAAUGGUUGAAAAGGCAUAAAUUUUAAUUUGAGGGGAAGAAUCUUUACACUUUCUAUGUGUUACAAUUCUUUUAAAAAAAUAUACUUUUAUGAUUUUAUCAAGCCCUUGUCAAAGGAUAUCUUCAUCAUGUUUUGAGAUAAGUUGGGUGUGCAUAUUCUUUCCCACUCCAAUUUGAGCUUGCAUAUUAAGGGAAAGAAUAAAAUAAGACAAAAAGCACAUAGGAUGGCAACACGUAGGAUGAUAAAAAUCCACUUCAAUUAAUAUUUCCAUAAAUCAAGAGUAAUGAAAUAUUAAAAUAUUUCAUUCUCCUAAUUUAGGAUAUAAUAUUUAUUUUAAAUAAAUAAUGAACAAUCAAAUAUUAACAAUAUUUUAUUCUCUUAAUUUAGGAAAUAAUAUUUAUUUUCCUUAAUUUUAGGAUACUUGUUAUUUCUUUCUUUGUAUAAUUCACAAUGCAUUCUUGUAUAAAUUUUCUAAAAGAAACAAUAAAAUUCAUCAUUUUCAUUGCCAAAUUAUCAAAUCCUUUACUAAUGGCCUUAUGAUUAAAAUUGUUGUGAACUGAGGAAGCUUAAGAAUCUGUUAAGAAGGUUGCUGAGGUGUGAAGAGAGGCUGAAAUUGAGGCUGCAACCAUAAAACAACUUAGUCAAUGAAGCUAAUAGAGUUUCAUGGAGCUAUUACGUUGUUGUUGCUAUUUUAUAGGAAAUAGUUGUUAGUUCUAACUAUUUUUGCUGUUUUUCUAUUGUUUUCUAUUGCAAACUUGUGUAUAAAUGUUGCAUUGAUCAUUCAAUAAGAGUAGACAUUUUCGUUGUCUCAAAUACAACUUUUGGUAGUUGCUUCCAACACUUCUAGAUUCUAAAACCUACAGAUUGGUAUCCGAGCCUUCUAUCAUGAGAGACCUGUGAGGAUUGAGUGAAGCUAAAAUACCUUCACACAUACUGAACUCCAAAGCCAACAUAAACACACAACCUUUAACAGCUUGUAACUAUCAUUCCGCAGUAAAUGGAUGGAGAUACAAGCUUUCUGUCAGUACUAGUUUUCAAUGGUGAUAAUUAUCAGGCGUGGGCUAUUAGAAUGACAGUCCACCUUGAAGCUUUGGAUCUUUGGGAGGUAGUAGAAGAAGGUUAUGAAGUACCACCACUUGGAGACAAUCCAAGUAUCAAUCAAAUGAAGAUUCACAGGGAAAGAAAAACAAGGAAAGCCAAAGCCAAGGCUUGCCUCUUCUCUGCAGUUUCACUUUCCAUUCUCACCAGAAUCAUGCAAAUGGAGUCUGUUGUAGCAAUCUGGGAGUAUCUAAAAAAAUGAGUAUCAAGGGAAUGAAAGGGUGUAGAAUAUGCAAGUAAUGAAUUUAAUAUGAGAAUUUGGAAUGAGCAGAAUGAAAGAGUCUUAAACUAUCAAAUAUUAUGCUAAACAACUACUUAGCAUAGCAAACAAGGUAAGAUUGUAUGGUAAGGAAUUUUCUAAUGAAAGAAUUGUUCAGAAAAUCUUAGGAACUCUGCCUAAAAAAUAUCAAGCCACAAUCUCUUCCUUGGAAAACUCUAAAGAUUUGUCAAGUAUAUCUUUGGCAGAAAUUGUUAAUGCUUUGCAGGCCUUGGAACAAAGGAGAAUGAUGAGACAAAAAUGAUAUGUUGGGAACAUUCCAAGCCAAAUCACAAAACAAUGAUUCCAGCAAAGAAAGAAAGAAAAACAAGAAGAACAACAAGUCAAGCCUUAACAAAAAGAAUCAGAAAGGAGCCCAUCCACCUUGCCCUCAUUGCAAAAAAACGAAUCAUCCUCCACAAAAGUGCUGGUGGAGGCCAGAUGUCAAGAGCAACAAUUAUGGUCAAUUAGGCCAUAUGGAGAAGAUAUGCAAAACAAAAUAAGAAGGAGAGAUCAAGACUGCAACUACUGAUCAAUAUCAUGAAGAACAGUUGUUUGUUGCCACUUGUUUUGCUAGAAAAAACACAUCUGAAAGUUGGCUCAUAGAUAGUGGUUGCACAAACCACUUGACUUACGAGCAAGGACUUUUCAGGGAACUCAACAAAAUAAUCAUUUCCGAAGUAAGAAUUGGAAAUAGGGAAUACAUCUCAGCAAGGGGCAAAAGGACUGUUGCCAUUGAAAGUCUCUCAAGUUUGAAACUUAUCCCUGAUGCUUUGUUUGUUCCUAAUAUUGAUCAAAAUCUCUUAAGUGUUGGGCAACUACUUGAGAAAGGUUUCAAGGUGCUAUUUGAGGACAAGUUCUAUAUGAUCAAGGAUGCAAAUGGAAAAAAUGUGUUCAAGAUCAAGAUGAGAGGUAAAAGCUUUGCCUUGAAUUUUCUUGAGAAAUAGCAGGCUGUUGUUUCUCAAGAAAAUAAUAUCACAACUUUAUGGCACAAGAGAUUGGGGCACUUUCAUCAUAAUGGAGUGCUCUACAUGAAGAAGAAUCAACUUGCAGUAGGUCUACCUAACCUGAACCAAAAUCUUCCUACUUGCAUAGCCUAUCAGUAUGGAAAAUAAUCCAGACUUCCUUUCCCACAGAAAUCUACAUGGAGAUCAUCACACAAGCUGCAACUUGUACACAUUGAUGUUGGAGGACCUCAGAGAACACCAUCUUUAAAGGACAGUAAGUACUAUAUUGCCUUUAUAGAUGAUUAUACCAGAUAUUGUUGGAUUUUUUCCUAAAUUUUAAAUCUGAGGUUGUUGAUGUAUUUUGGAAGUAUAAGACCCUAGUAGAAAACCAAAGUGGUGCCAUCAUGAAGGUUAUAAGGACAGAUAAUGGCACUAAAUAUACUUCUGAAAGAUUCAACAAUUUCUAUUAAGAAGCAAGCAUAGAGCACCAACUGACUGCACCUUACAUACCACAACAGAAUGGAGUGGAAGAGAUGAAGAAUAGGACUAUAAUGGAGAUGACAAGAUGCCUUUUGCAUGAGAAAGGGCUACAAAAAAAGUUCUAGGUUGAAGUUGCAAACACUGCAGUGUUUCUACUAAAUAGACUCCCAACCAAAGCUUUGCAAAAAAAGACUCCUUUUGAGGCUUGGUUUGGAUAUAAACCUCUGUUAUUAAAAUUAAAAACAUUUGGUUGCCUUUGUUUUAGUUAUGUGCCUUAGGUGAAACAAGACAAGUUGGAUAAAAAGGUACUCAUGCUGACAAAUUCAUUGUUAGCAUAGAUGUCAAAUUCAUGGAGGAUGAUAAAUGGAGUUGGGAUGCUACAAAAAAUCAGAAUUUUGAGUUCCUUGAUGAAAAUAUUGAUGACAUUCCUGUAAGAAGCACCAAAUCACUUUUUGAUAUUUAUCAAAUGUGUAAUAUGGUUGUGUUUAAGCCUGCAGAGUUUAAUGAAGUUGUUGAGGAUAAAAAAAAGAAGGGUUGUAAUGCGGGAGGAGCUCAACAUGAUAGAGAAAAACAACACUUGGGAGUUAGUUGACAAACCAAUACAUAAAAAGGCCAUUGGUGUCAAGUGGGUUUAUAGAACCAAACUCAAUUAUGAUGGUUCUAUAAACAAACAUAAAGCCAGGCUGGUUGUCAAAGGUUAUGCUCAAAUGUUCGGUGUGGAUUUUUCAGAAACCUUUGCACCUGUAGCUAGGUUGGAUACAAUAAGGAUGCUGCUAGCUUUGGCUGCUCAAAAAGGUUGGAAAAUCUAUCAGCUAGAUGUAAAAUUAGCUUUUCUAAAUGGCUACCUUGAGGAGGAAAUCUUUGUGGAGCAACCUAAAGGAUUUGCAGUAAAAGGCAAAGAAGACAAGGUUCUUCAACUAAAGAAAGCCUUGUAUGGCUUGAAGCAAGCCCUUAGAGCUUGGUACAAUAGGAUUAAUGCACAUCUACUUGGUUUGGGGUUUAAAAAAAGUCAGAGUGAAUCCACACUUUAUAUUAGAAAAAUUAAUGUUGACAUACUUAUUAUUUCAUUAUACGUUGAUGAUUUGCUUGUAAUAGGAAGCAAUCAAUGUUUAAUGGAUAAAUUCAAAGCUGAAAUGGAGAAGGUCUUUGAGAUGACAGAUCUUGGAGACAUGUCUUAUUUCCUGAGAAUGGAAGUGCAUCAGAAUCAGCAUGAGAUAUUCAUCUGUCAGCAGAAGUAUGCAAAGGAAAUUCUAAAAAAGUUCAAGAUGGAGAAAUGCAAGCCCAUAGCCACACCUAUGAAUCAAAAAGAAAAGUUUUGCAAAGAAAAUGGUGUUGAAAAAGUAAAUGAAGAGUUAUAUAGAAGCAUGAUUGGAUGCUUGAUGUAUUUGACUACAACAAGGCCAGAUAUAGUACAUGUUGUAAGUUUACUCUCAAGAUACAUGCAUUGUGCUAGUGAAAUUCACUUGUAGGCAGCAAAAUGUAUUGUGAGAUAUAUAAAAAGCACUAUUGACUUUGGCAUCAAGUUCAAGUAGGUACAGAAUUUUCAUUUUCAUGGAUUUUCUGAUAGUGAUUGGACUGGCUGCGUUGAUGAUAUGAGAAGCACAUCAGGUUCUUGCUUUAGUUUUGGUUCAAGUUUUUUCUCUUGGUGCUCUAAAAAAGAGGAUAUCGUGGCACAAUCCACAGUUGAAGCAAAGUACAUUGUUGCUGCUGCUGCUGCAAAUCAUGCACUUUAGAUAAGAAAGCUGCUAACAGACUUAAACAUGGAGCAAACUGGGAGCACACAAGUCAUUGAUGACAAUCAAGCUGCAAUUUUAAUUGCAAGUAAUCCAGUAUUCCAUGGUAGGACAAAGCACUUCAAAAUCAAGUUUUAUUUCUUAAGGGAAAUACAACAUGAUGGAGAAGUAACUUUGGUACAUUAUAAAACAGAAGUACAAAAUGUUGAUAUUCUAACAAAAGCUCUACCAAGAACUAGGUUUGAAUUUCUCAGAAAAAGACUUAGAGUUUGUAGCUCCCAAGUCAAGGAGGAGUGUUGAGAAAAAUGCCUUAGUAGCUACAAUCAUGCUGGAAGACGUGUGAAAGUUGCUGUGAACUGAGGAAGCUUAAGAAUCUGUUAAGAAGGUUGCUUAGGUGUGAAGAGAUGUUGAAAUUGAGGUUGCAACCAUAAAACAACUUAGUCAACGAAGCUGAUAGAGUUUCAUGAAGCUAUUAUGCUGUUGUUGUUAUUUUAUAGGAAAUAGUUGUUAGUUCCAACUAUUUUUGUUGUUUUUCUAUUGUUUUUUGUUGCAAACUUUUGUAUAAAUGUUGCAUUGAUCAUUCAAUAAGAGUAGACAUUUUUGUUGUCUCAAAUACAACUUUUGGUUGUUGCUUCCAGCACUUCUAGAUUCUAAAACCUAUAGAUUCUAUGAAUUUUAAUGAUAUUCCAUCAUUUCUAGGCCUCUCAAACCUUCAAAUUAGUAGGGUUACAAAACAUAAUUUCUCAAACAACAUUCUUUCCAUAGUCAUAUCUCUAGCAUUGCUAUAACCCAGGAUCAUCAAGGACCAAGACAAAACAUUCUUGUUUGCCAUCUUCUCAAACAACUCAAAUGUUGUAUUUAUCUUUCCUACCUUAACAUACCCAUCAAAUAUUAUAUUCCAACUAAUAACAUCUCUAUUUGGCAUUUCAUCAAAAGCCUUCCUCACAUUUUCUUGAUCCACAUGGGCAUAAAUCACUCUCAACUAUUAACACAAACAACAUAGAUUUUAGCUAAUUACAAACCAAAUUGAUAUAUCACCCCUAGUAGUUGUAAUUUCCUUCAUUAAUUACCCUCCCAUUUCCACAUCUCUUUUUUUAUGCAACUCAUAAAAAAAUUUCAUGAAAUUUGAGUGUAGGUAGGAGAAAGCACGAAUCUCAGUGCACAAAAAUUUGAUUUCAAUCAUUCAAAAAAAAAUUAAUUUUAUGGAAAAACAUUAUAAUAGUAAAAUAACAAAUUGAGAAGGACUUUCUAAGAAAAUAUAAUCAAAGGAAAACAAGGUAAUCAAAAGACUCAUAUAAUGUUUUACUUCCAUUUUCUAAGUAACUAAAUAGAAAUGUGGAAAGGAAAGUACCUCCAACUAUGGAUGUAAAGAGUCAUUGUUAAUGAGAAAAUGGUGAGAAUUGGAAUCAUGAAAAGUGUAGAAGAAGACUGCUUGGACUAUGGAGAGUGAAGGAGAAAGAUAAUGCUUGUUGAAAGGGAAAUAGUGGGUUAUUGGGCAACACUUAGGGUUAUUUUAGGUAUAUUUGAAAAUUUUAAAAGUAUUUUUUAAAUAAUCACCUCUCAAGUGCUUUUCUAAAAAUUACUUCAAGUGAUUUUUUUCUUUUGAAGGUUCUUAAAAGUGUUUUUGAAAUCUUGCCAAACAUCUACUUUUCAUCCAAAAAAACUCUUUUAAUUAUUAAAAAUGCUACACUCUUCUUAAAAAUACUACUAAACAAGUUCUUAAUAGGAUUUUAUUUAUUAUCACAUGUUUCUUAGUCUUUAACCAAGGACAUGUCUAUACUAUAUAAUAAAAGCAGAGAUACAACUUUAUUCUAACUAUUUUUCAACCUUACUUUCUUUAAAUACCUACUGAAAUGUAAUUUUAUUAUUAUUCAUUAAUUAAACCAUUAAGAAUGGGAUUACUAUGAUUUCACCCCAACUCCAACUCCCUUUUCUACAAAAAGUAAAACUAAUUUUUUGGGAAUACGUAUGCAAAGUAAUGGCAUAGAUGAAGUUGUAAAUGGAGAUUAAUGGAAAUGAUAGAAGCGGGAUUUUGCUAGGGUUUUAGAGCCAAAGAGGAUGGGUUGGUUAUGGUGGGUCUUAAGGGAAGUGAUAGAGAAGUUGGGAAUUGAGGUUAGAUUUAAUGUUAAGGUUAGGGCUAGGGUUUCAUCAAUGGAUGGUGAUGAAGAUGAAGAUAUGGACAUCCCUUGCAAAAUCUACCAAUAUAAUUAGUUUAUACUAUAUAAUCAACUAAAAUUUGAAUCAAUUCUCCUUCUCAAACUAUGAUAAUAUGAUUUUAGAUGAUUUUUGAUAAUGAUUUCUUUUCCUCUCAAUGAAGCUGUAGAUCAAUUCUAUGUUUCAACUUGAAUAAGGGAUCCUUAGAAUCUCUCAAUAUUUAGUUUCUAUUUAGAUUAGGGAAUAAAGGAUCCCUAAGAUCUUUCAAUCUUUAAUAUCUAUUUAGUUUCCUAUAUAAAAUAAGAAGAGUGUAAUGGGGAAAGAAACGAAAAAAUAAUCUCAAUAAGAAAAAUUUGUUCUCUCAAUUUUGCAUCUUCUCCUUGAGUCAUAAGAAUUGGUGUUAGAACACGGUCUUGGCACCAAUCAUGGAUGAAGGGACUAGAGUGUAAGAACAACAUAGACUUGAAGAUACUAUUAAACAGUUGAAAGAAUCAUUGGAUAAACAAGCGACUACCUUAUUAGAACUAUCAAAGAUGGUUGCAACCAUAAACUUGAAAUUCAAACACAUGAAUUUAAGAAUAGAGAAGUCAAGUAAUGGGUACAGUGCCUCAAUCAAUAGAAGCAAGACAAACUAUCACUCACAUGGGAUAAACUCCAUUCAAACUAGUUUUCCAAACUCAAUUUUCAAAAUUUUGAAGGUGAGAAUUGGGAAUCAGGAAAAGAUAGGAUUGGCUUCCUUACAUUUAAAAGGAAGGGCCUUAGAAAGGUUUCAAGGGUACAAGGUUAGUAACAAGGAAAUCAAAUGGACACAAUUUUAUAUAGAUGUUGUUUCUAGGUUUAGGCCUAAUGUUUAUGAUAGCCUUAUGGGGUAAAUAACCAAUUUGAAAUAGGUUUCUACGGUUAUGGCAUACAAAAAUUAGUUUAAAGUAUUGAUGAUCAAAACUAGUGGGUUAUUGAAGGAAUUUUUUGUCUAGUGUUUCAUUAGUAUCUUGAAAGAGGCAAUUAAAAAUCAAGUCACCAUGUUUCAACCGAUCACAUUAGCCCAAACCAUCGAGUUAGUCUUGUUGCAAAAAUAAAUAGUGGAAGUAAUUCUCAAGGAAGUCAAGGACUCUAACGAAAGUAGGGAUAGUACAAUGAACUUUACAAGAAUCAUUAUGAAUCAUAAUAACAAAUUGCCACCCCUUAAGAAGAUUUCAGUUGUAGAAGUGCAAGAGAGAAGAAAAAAAGUUUUUUUUAUUAUUGUGAUGAAAAGUAUGAGUCUGGCUAUAAAUAUAAAAUGAGACAAUUUUUUCUAUUAAAUGGUCAUAAAAGUGAAGGGAAAGUGUGGACCCGCAUUUUUCACGUGUGUUCCCACUCGAUCGGCGAGACUCGCUUUUUAUUUGUGAAAAAUUGAUUUUUGAAAAAAAGUUGGAGUCGCCACCUAUUUUAUUUUUAUUUUAAAGGGAAAAUAAAACAAGAAAGAAAAACCCUAAAAAGUGACUCCAUAGUUUUGGAAAAAGCAUGUCUUUGAGAAACCCGAGUCUAGGUCCGGGGAUUAGGUUACUUAUUGGGAAGGUACCUCUAGGAGAUAGCACCCCUCUAAGCCCUAAAGAGGUCCCUACUGACUAAGUUAAGGGAAGUGUGGCCAUUAAUCAGUUAAUUAUGGAUACCUAAGUAGGUUAGGUGAUUUUAAAGUGUGGCAUGUCAAACGCAAUCAAAUUGCAAUAAAGAAGAGUUAGGGUGCGUACCUGAACCGUUCUUCAAGCGCUAUCAUAAAACAUAAAAGUUAGUGUAGAAAUGUAGCACACAACAUUUGUUUUAUUUAAGCAAAUCAAGCAUAUAUCAAGACAUCCAAGAAUCACGUCAAAUAUGGAUAUGGUCAUCAAUGACAUACAAGUCCAUAGAGUUCUUAAAAAAAUAGAUGAGAAGAGAGCGUACCUGGAUAGCAAGCUAGUACUCCUCUAUGGGAAACAGGAGUAUUUCGAUAAUAAAUACAAAACAAAUUCAUGUAUAUCAUCAAGAAGAAUCAAGGAUCAACACAUCAAACAAACAAUAUGGAAGAGAAAAUCAUGAAUGUAGGGCCCCCACCAAAGCCCUAAUUAAUUUUGCAUGAGUUGGUUCCAUAAAUUCCAUGAUUUGGAAUUAUGAAGUUUAUUCAUGCUUGUUGAAAAUCAAGAAGAUCAAUUGAAAAUCAAAUAAAAUAGUGAAAAUGCGUGCCGGAAGGAAAAUGGCAGCCAAGAAUUUAUUAAAGGUCUAGAUUUAAAUGUCUAUGAACUCCUAAGGAUGAAAUUUUAAAGGAAAUAAGAGUUAUUCAAUGGAAAAUAUAUUGAAAUCCAAAUUUAAAAUGAAUGUGUAAAUUCACAAGGGAACGGAAGGAGCAUCAAGAGGACAAGUGAAUCAAGCCAGCCAUGUUGGAGAGGGCCCUGUGACUAUGCUACUUAAUCUCUGUUUGUGCCUGGACAAUUGAACCUUUCCUAUAGUUUCUUCUUCUGUCUUUCGAAAUUCUCUGUAUUGAAGCAUGCCUCAAGAUGAAUUAGAAUUGUCCUGUUUGACGAAAACUCCCUUAAUAGAAACGGGAAGAAGAUCUGUAUCCCCAUUAAAAGCUCUACUAAUUCCAUAACAGUUCCAGAAUUCUGCAUCAAUUGGCCUCUUAGCUGAACAAACAAACAAAGUCUGUAUGUGCUUCCUAUUUAUCCAUCAAGGGCAAAUUGAAGAUUUCCCUGAUGUCACAUCGCGAGCUUCGUUCCAUCCAAAUCCUUCAUCAUUCAUCAGUAAUUAUAUCAAUUCUAGAAUAGCAGGGGUAGGGUGUGUAUUUUUCAAUUGCGCUGCUACCUUACUGGGAAAUUCAGACCAUUGCCACGAGUCCUCAUCUAUCCUCUCCAUGAAUCUGAAAAUAAUGUCUUGAAGUGGGGCAUUGCAUAGGAAAAAUUAUUGUUUUAGUAGUGAGAGCUUCCCAAUUUCGAUGUAGAGAAGUCAGUUGCAUCCUCCCAAUCAUCUGGCUUGGCCUUAGGCUGAUCAUCUUUAUAUUCUUUUGGAGGGUCAACACACUCGACAUUGCCAUCAUCAUAACUGCUGUUCUGACCUAAUGUGGCAUUCUCAUACCUAUUGCAAUCACCUUCUCCAUUCUCAGUUGAGAGCUUCAAUGCUACAACAUCUAAACAGGUGAGCAACCUCCUCCCCUGAGCCAGUGUUUUUUAGUCCCUCGAAUCAUGAAAAAUAGAAACUGACCAAGCAAAAUCAAGUAAACCAGUAAAACCCAAGCUUUGUCUAAGGCCAAGGCUAACUAAAGUCUCCAAAGUUUCAGGAUCUGAGAACUUGUCAAGGGGGAAGAAAACUUCUCUGUGAAGCAUGUCUUGCAAUUCGGGAACUCGAGGAUCAUAUAGCCUGGAUGGUUGUUGCCAUGACCCAUUGGCAGCCAAAACAAAGGGUGUGAUGGAAAGUGUAAGUUUAAUUGAGGUAUCUUCUUCAAUCAAAAGUUUCACAUCAUGUAAAAUGGCUGAAAGUGCUCCCUGCUAUGAAAGAAAUUCUGGCAUGCAAGUGACUACAUAAUCUUUGUAGAAUUCUGCCCUUGAAGGUUCCUUAACCUCUAAAUACCUUCUUAGGAUGAUUCUUUCUUUUUCUGAAUCCGUGCGUACAAAGUCAUCAUUCAAAAGAUCUUCAGACACACCAUUUGGUUUAAGCAAUUUAGUGGGUUUACUCAAACAUACUAGUUUUCUACUUCUGAACGAUUCAAACAUGGGAAGGUGUUUGAUGACAUCAAUAUGUGUGUCAUCCAUCUGACAUUCAGAGAACCACUUUGACUGAAGAAUAAAACUCCUGAGUUCAUGAAGCUCCCCUUCUGAUGCAUCACAGAAAAGUUUCUGAAAAUUCUCCGGAUUAUGAGCAAGUGCCAGUAAGGCAUUCAAAAUGCUAGUUGCUAUUGGCAGCUGCACAUAAUUUUUCAACUGUGGAUGCUCUAUAGGCAGGUCAUUCCUCAAAAAUAGGCAUCCUACUUUCAAUAACAAAGAACACAUGUUCUCACUCCACCCAUCAUCUUUUAUCACAUUUGAAUUUUCAAUCAGCUUCAAGAGAUAAUUAUUCCCAACUGGUAAAAUAGGCCACUUCGAAAAUUCUGAGAGAUCAUCACAACAUGACUUCAAAUAACUCCAUAGCAGCCUUAACCAUUCUAAACUUGGUUGGCCUUGAUGACCAGGGUUCCAAAUUACCUGUUUGGCAUGCUGCCACUCUGUUGGGAGUAAUCUUAGGAAAAGUUUUUCAAGCAAAUAACAUGUCAGAAAAGAAAUAUUUAAGUCUUCUAUUUGGGCAAUAUCACAUAGCUUCAUAUGAAUUCCUUCCGGAAUUCCAGAGUCUACAAGUUGAUGUGGAAUUGAAUCCUUAAGAAGACCAUACUCAUCUCCACGUGCAAUAUAAAUCCUUUCACCCACUCUCAUCUUGUCAAAUGCUGUAAAUAAACCAUUGGCAAGGGGUACCAAAGGUAAACCAUACAAACUAUCAGAUCGAACUGGCAUUUUCAAGUCAAGUAAGCAAUAUUCAAGUGUCAAUAUCAUUGCAUUCCUGUCCCUAAAUCCACGUUUCCGCCGAAUCAACAGAGUUCUCAGCAACUGAGGUGUCAGGAAACGCAAUGAUGGACAAAACUCCAUAAGCCUCUCGACAAGUGGCUUAGAAGGAGAAACGAGAGGUAGACCAGCAUCAGAUAAUACUUCUACAAGCUCAUGUGCCUUACUGAAAGUAAAAUCAGGAAAAACAGCUUGUUUGACGGAAAUCCACUGGCCCCCUCUAGCUUUUGUAUACAAUACAGAAAGACCAGAAUCAGCAAUAAAAUUAUAGAGUUUCUGCACCAUUGAUGCCCAAGGUUCUAUUCCAAUGCUAGUUGACCAAAAUGAAAAGAACAAAUCACAUGGACCAAGUUCCAAUGCAAUUUUCUCAAGCAAAUGACCAUAAGCAGGGGCAGCAGCAUCUUCAAGCAGGUAAAUGUUCCAUUCCGAGCAUUUUUUUUUCACCCCCUGCCAUGUCAUUGCCAAACCAGAUAUCCCUUCGAUUUGAUGACAAUUCAAAAUAUGCAUUAACAUGUGCUGGAAGACCAGUACUGAUCGGCAGUGGUAAAAAGCAGAAUGCACAACCCUCAAAAUUCUUUCUAUCUUGAAUAGAAGAAGCAGGAACUUUAAAGACAUCAGAAAUAGUUUCACAAGUUCUCUCAGUAUGUGGAAUAUCACUCGAUUCCCUAUCAACCUUGACAGAGUGUAAAUAUGCAGCAACACAAGCCCAAGGAAUUAAAUUAUGAGACUUCGAGGGUACAAAGCUCUUAACUUGCCCAACACCUAAACAUUCACUGGUUAUCCAAAAGUGUGACAUAUUUUUUUGACGAACUUUGCUCUAUCAUCACAAUCUUCUGACAUUUCCAUGGCAAAUUCUUAUCAACUGAUUUACUCAAUUUUUUUAGAAACUAAUCCUUAUCCAUUCCACUGUGAUGAUUUCCAUUAAAAAUGCUGAACAUAUGUAGAGAAUUGGGUUCAAUGUCAGGUUCACUGAUGCAAUGUUUAUGAACACGAUGUACGAGUUGCAUUUCACAACCAGUUUCUUCCUUAACAAAAAUGGAGAUGGUUUUCACAUUACGGACGAAAAGUAAAGCCUCUGAAACAACCUUAGAAAAAGAAGCAAAGAGAGACAUGACAUCUUCAGGUGCAUAGCCUUCUUUCUUUAUUUGGCUUCGAGAAGCAACACUUGCAUUCUUGAGAGGAAAACGAAAGACUGUGCCAGGAAAGGGAUUCUGCAAGUCAUAGCCAAAGUGUAGGAAUGGAAAGAACUGAUCUGGAAAUUGUUCCAGAAUCCUUCUCCCAACAUAUCUAAUUCUUAAACUAGGGUGGGAUGGAUAGAUUCCAGGCAAAUUACAGGCAUGAGGAUCAAACAUAACAAUAUUUUCCCCAGAAACAAAAGUUGGUAUGUCUGUAAAAUGAUAAACACAAUUAAAUCCCAGCCCAAAUCUUCCAAUAGCAAAUGGCUUCUCUAGCUUGCUUUCUUGACCAAUCCGCGAAAUUGCAUAAAGAUCUUGUGGACUGAAAACAGAGUCAUUGAAACAGUACAAAGCAGAGCCUUGCCAAUCUGCCAUUUCAGGAGAGAGGAUGGAAGAAGUCCCAUACUGGGUUUUCCGCGGUCAUCCCAUCUUUAAAUCUUCGAAGCUCUGCUUUCUCUCCCCAAAAAUUCCGGAAUUUAAGAGCCUCAUCUUUAUGCUCAGCAUUUGGACAAGCAUCGACCACUCUAAAAGCUUUCUCUAAAGAGCUGACUAAAAUCCCAAUGAGCAAUGGCCCUCGCUCAAAGAUCGAUAAGCCAUUUUCCACAUUGCAUUCUGAAGUGGCAUUUUUCCAACUAACACGGAUGAACUUUGCUCUAAGAGAACCAACAUUUCAUCAUAAAACCCAAUUGAUCCAAAACAGGAAACUAAGGAAUUAAUCAAAUCUUCUCUCUGGACAUUUCUUCGAACACACCGUAAGCACCUCAAAUAGAUUCAAAUACCAUACAGGAAGAGGGAUAGAGAACAAAUAAAAAAAGAAAAGAUAUAAAACCCGGAGACGAAGAAAGCGGAAGACAUUGAUCAAUAAACAUAAAUAGCUCCACUUCAAAUGUUAAUCCGUGGGCUGGGGACAGAGGAAGCAAUGCAGUAUAGGAUUUUUAACAAAAAAAAACAUGAUCAAAUUCAAGCAUGGAGUCAUGAAUUUCAAAAGACAACAAUGACACAUGCAAGAAUCAGAAUCUAAAACAGGGCAAAGAAGUGAGUAACCAAUCUCAAGAAAUCAAUUUGUGGCCCUUUCCGUCCACACCAAUCAUCAGUAUAUUAAAUGUUCAGAAACAAACACACGGAGAAAUCAAGUAUGGGUAAGAAUUCCAAGAGUGGCGAGAAUCAUACCUGGGCAGCCUUGGUUGCAAUUGCUCUCUUCUCCAAUUCCUUUUUGCUUCUCCUCAAGACGAUCCCUCAAAUCCCCUCUCUCUUUUUCCUCUCUCACAUAUAUAUCAGCCUCCCUCAAAGAACCCCCCAAAUCUACUGGAGGAAAAUCCACUUUCCUUUCAUAUUUUCUUCCCUUUUGUAACCGAUUCCCUCAUGGAAAUAAUAUACGUGCUAUCCUUCUAAAAACACAAUCUCCUCUUUUCAAAAUUCUGUUGAUUUUCCUUCCAAAUAAAUGGCAAUCGUUUCCUCAUGCCCAAAAAAUAAAUAAAUAAAUAAAUAAAGAUACAAAUAGAAAUAAGAAUAAAAUAAAGACAAAAUAGAAUAAAGAUUAAAAUCAAUAAACAUCAUGAAAUUGGAAAUCAAAAGAAAUUUAAAUCACACAUCUAAAAAAUAAAAUAAAUAAACAAAAAAUAAAAAAUAAAAAUAAUUAAAAACAAAAAAUAAAAUAAAAAAAUCAACCACAUGCAAGCCAUACAAGCUAUGUAACCACCAAAAGAAUAUGAGUCAUGCAACCAUGCAAAAACACGAGCCAUGCAACCAUGCGAACCAUGCAAAAACAUCUAAAGGUGACCUAGGGUGUGUCCUAAUGGGCCAAGUGUAUCUAAAAGCUAUCCUAAAAAAAAAUAAGAAAAGCCUAAGUCUAAGUUAGGGCUGCCAAGGGUCACAAUAAGGGAUCAAAUAAUCCCUCAACCAAAAUCUCCGAGGUGACUCAGAAAAAGGUAAGUGGUACGAGUAGUAAUGGGCCACCAAGGAACUACCGUGGAGCACUGGAAGUGAAUUUAAAGACAUGUGCUAAAGGAACAAAAUUGAGGGUCUACAAAUAUGCCCCUCUUCGAUAUAGAUCACGAGUGUAGAGAAUGCAAGUAGAAGCACGAGUAAUGAGCGAAAUGAAGUGAACUAUACCGAAGAAUUAAAGAAGGACCAAAGAUUUUGUCCUAGCACAUGAAGAGGUAAGGUCAAACAAUGGGGUCGCAAUGAGAUGGAAAUAAGUGAAAAGGGUGACUCAAAGUCAUGAAUGAGAUAAAUGAAUAUGGGUCAAGGACAAGAUGAACGAAUCUAGAUUUAAAAUAGGAUAAACGACUCUGGGUCAUAGGCUCAAGGCUCUAAUUGGAAAGAAUGACUCUGGGUCAAGAUGGAAAACGACUCUAGGUCGAGAGCCCUAGGCUCUAAAUGGAAAAGAAAUGACUCUGGGUCAAAAUGGAAAAUGACUCUGGGUCGUAAUGGAAAGUGACUCUAGGUCGAGAGCCCUAGGCUCUAAAUGGAAAAGAAAUGACUCUGGGCCGUAAUGGAAAAUGACUCUGGGUCGAGAGCUCCAGGCUCUAAAAUAGGAAAGAAUGACUUUGGGUCGAAAUGGAAAGUGACUCUGGGUCGAGAGCUCUAAGCUCUAAAAUAGGAAAGAAUGACUCUGGGUCGAAAUGGAAAGUGACUCUGGGUCGAGAGCUCCGGGCUCUAAAUGGAAAGGAAUGACUCUGGGUCAAAAUGGAAAAUGACUCUAGGUCGAGAGCUCUGGGCUUUAAAUAGGAAAGAAUGACUCUGGGUCAAAAUGGAAAAUGACUCUGGGUCGAGAGCUCUGGGCUUUAAGUAGGAAAGAAUGACUCUGGGUCAAAAUGGAAAAUGACUCUGGGUCGAGAGCUCUGGGCUUUAAGUAGGAAAGAAUGACUCUGGGUCAAAAUGGAAAAUGACUCUGGGUCGAGAGCUCCGGGCUCUAAAUAAAUAGCCGAUCAGGAUACUUUCCGACUCAGGGUGUCGGGUCGAGGCCACUCACAAGUGGCUAGAAUGAUGAAAACAAAACAUCUCAGGGAUGUGAAUGAUGCAAAUGACUCCGGGUCGUGAGCUCAGGGCUCGGGGUGCUAUGAAUGACUCUGGGUCAAGAUGGAAAAUGACUCUGGGUCGAUGAAUAGCUCAGGGCUAUGAGCUCCGGGCUCUAUGACUGAUCGGUUAGAAGGAGAAUGCGAUACGCAAACUCCAGGUCAAACCACUCAUGGGCGACCAAAUGAUGAAGGCUUAGCUAAGAGCUGGAAAGACUCUAGGUCUAUGGGAAAUGAUAGCUCAGGGCCACGAGGCUCAGGGCCUAAAGGAAAAAGAAUGCUCAGGGCUGUAAGACUCGGGGUCUAGAAGGAAUGAAUAACUCAGGGCUAUGAGGCUCAGGGCCUAGAAGGGAAUAAUAGAGAAGACCAACUCGAAAGUGGACAUGAAAUAAAUUGGCUCAAAGCCAUAUACUCAAAAUGUCAAGGGUCGGACUACUGAAACCAAGAAGGGAAAUAUGCCUCAGUAUCCAGGGUGCUCACACUGCUGAAACAACCAGUAAACCAAUCAUCUGCUAGAAUCAAUGGGUCAGAAACUGAUGCAUCGUGACAAACCUCUGAAAAGUCUAAACUGAAGGAACCCUCUAUGUCUGAAAAGCUGCUCUGUCGGUGAAUCUCAAAAGGUAAAUCUCAAAGAGUGUAUAUCAUGGCUCAUCUAAAAGUAAACCUCAAAGUGCAUAAAAUGCUGCUCAUCUGGAUAAUCCAAUCGACAAGGUAACAAUGACGAAAACAAAUCUGUCUCAUGAACAUCUGGCUAAAGGAUCCACCCACGCUCCUCGGGUGAAACCUGAUGCGAUCCAUUUCUAUCUCAACAAAUCCAUGUAGGGAGGCCCUGAUACAGUCGAUCGUCAGAAGCUCUGGGCUAGUACUCAAUCUGAAACCAAACUGGCCACUGUCCCAAUCUCAAGGAUACUCAAAGAAAAUGGGCAAAUAUGCCCCAGUAUAAGAUCCGAUAUCAAAGUCAUGAGGUAAACAACCGACACUAAUCAUCCAUCCUCAUGCCACUGCCCAAAUAAAAUCUCGUCAAGGAGGGGGGAAUAUGCCCCAGUAUGGAUAUCCGAUGUCGAAGUCAUGAGGCAAAAAAAAAAAAAAAACAAAAAAAAACAAAAAAUGAUCAUCCAUCCUCGUACCACUGCCCAAACACAAUCUCAUCAAUGAGAGAGGAAUAUGCCCCAGUAUGGAUGUCUGAUGUACAAUAAAGAGUCUGUCAAAAUCAACCAAACAUCUCUAUAACUAUGAAUAAGGAUAGUCAUACCGCACAAUAACAGAUAGGAAUCUCGAGGGAAUGGGGGAAUAUACCUCAGUGUGAAUAUAUAAUGCACAACCAAAGGAUGAAUCCAACAGCAUCAAUCAACUGUCCUCAGCUCAACAAUAAUACGCUAAGAAGUCAGAAUGAAGUAUCGACCAAUGCCUCAAGGGAGACACUCUAAAUCUAAUCUCAAAUGAAUAGCCAAAAUGAUGAGGAAUGUGGUAAUCUUAGGAGUAGAAGCACGUCUCUAAUGAAUCCCUAACUGAAUCCAACAUGAAUCUGGUAACCUCGAAAUGGGGAAAUAUGCCCCAGUAUGCCAGAUCUAUACACUGCACUGAAAACUGCCUCCAACUCAGUAAUAAUCCACUAGUCUAUCUCAGAAAUACUCCGCAAAUAGAACCAACUAGGGGCUCAAUGAUGCUACACUAGAACUGAUAUAGUCUCAACAUACCCCACUAGGGAUCUCUGAUCGGUGAAAAUGCCCAGACUCAAAGAAAGUGCUCCACUAGGGGCUCAUCUCAACCAAAGGAAAGGGGAAUAUGCCCCAGUAUGGAUAUCUAAUGCACAACCAAAGGAUGAAUCCAAUAUCCUCAACGAACUGUCUCCGAACCCAAAAAUCCAUCAAACACCAAUACGCCAAGCAAGAGAGAAACCAAAUGCUUCCAAAAGUAUCUUCCAUAAAAGAGAACAUAGUAACGACCAUACUUCAACCAAUCUACAAAAGUCUGUCCAAGUGAAGACUGUCAAAGAUAACAUCUGAUCUCAUGGCCUCAGGGUGGUCUUAAGACACGGGACGUAACGUAGGCCAAGGUGAUAGGGUGAAAGAAAUGAAGGGAAACUAGGCUCAAAUACCCAAUGAUCAAACCCGUACCCUCGUGUACAAGAUGUAAUGCAUAGAAAAAUCUCAUGAGUCAUGGACUUAGAAGUAACCAAAGGGAAUGUCGAUAACGAAAUGAGAGAAAUGAUGAAUGGUCAAACCAUCAAUGAAAUAUGUGAAUGAUGUGAAGAAGGUAUCAAAUCAGUAAUGGGUAUCAAUAUGUAGGGAAUGAAUAAAAGGUGGAACAAAGAUCUGGAAAGAGGUAAUGGGAUAUAAAAGAAAGCAAUGAGAAAGUGGAAUGAGUGAUGAUCAACCCGUGUUAGUACAAUAAAGGAAAGUCAUAUCACCAAUGAUGGAAUGGUGGGUAUAAGACAAUGAUUCGGAGACCCUAGUAAAAAGGUCACUCAUCUCUCAUACCUAAUAUAUAUCAAUCAUGAUCCAAGCAGCAUAGGAUCUCAUAGAACUCUCACAUGAACCCUCGACACUCCAAAUGUGUAACAAAAGUGCCUCAAGAGUGAAAAAACUCAUAAAAACUCGCAAAGACCCACAAUGACAAAUAUACCCAAUAAAUGAACCUCAAGAGGUGGCAUAAAUGCCCAAUGGAACGAGAUACCAUACAUGAGCAUAUCAUUGUGCUUUUCUUUUCUUUUCUUUUUUUUUUUUUUUUUUUGAUUUUUUUUUCAAAUUUUUUUUUUUUUUUUUUUUUUACACAUGCUCUGAUCAUCCAUAAAUCAAACUCCAAUGGGAAAAAUAUAAGGAACAAACAAACUCUCUCAAAUCACUUAUGAAUACAUGAACCAUAUCCCAUGAGAUAACCUCUCAAACCAAAAUCUCCAAAUCAAUGUCAAAUGAUGGAAUGAAUAGAGUGAUAUGACUGCCCUCUUUGCACUAAGAUGUGAAGAAUCAUCAACCCAAGGAAGAGAAUAGAUAAGAUGAAGCGAAUAAUGAUAAAGACAAGAAAGAGAAUGAAUAUGUGGUGAUAAUAAAAUAGAACAAAUAGGGUGAUAAGAGGAUGGUAACAAAAUGAGAAGAUAGACCUAUAAGUCUAAAGCUCAUGAGACUUUCCUAGCAAAGCAUGCAUAUACAUCAAAGGGCCCCAACCCGGGUAUAGAAAUGGUAAUCAAAGCUAUAAGAAAAAAAUAAGGCUAUAACAUACCACGCGAAGCUCAAUGGGCUAGCAACGGUCUAAUAUAUAGAGGUGAUAAAGUAUGAGGCUAACCGAAAUGAUGGUCACCCAUCCUGCGACCACGGUCUCAAACAUAAUACUUCUUCAGCUGAUCCACAUUGGUAGGCUCUGAAAAUUGAUUUCCAUCUAAGUCUGUCAACCAUGCAGCCCCUUAUAGAGUCAACUCUCGGAUAACAUAAGGCCCACUCCAACUAGGUCUAAACUUUCCCCUAGGGUCUCCAAUCAAACCUCUGAGAAUCCUCAAAACUAAGUCCCCUUUUUGCAAUGGUCUAGGCUUAACCCGUUUCUUGAAGGCACGAACCAUCUUUCUUUGAUAGGCCUGAACAUGAUCUGCUGCUCUCAAUCUCCUCUCAUCUAAAAGGUUAAGCUGAUCAAAUCGAGCCUGAGCCCACUCUGUCUCAGAAAUCAGCUGCUCAAGGGCUACUCUCAAUGAACCCAUCUCUAUCUCGACUGGCAAAACAGCCUCCAUACCAUAUACUAGGGAGUAUGGCGUAGCUCUUGUAGAGGUGCGAAAAGAGGUACGGUAUGCCUACAAUGCAAAAGGAAGCUUCUCUGACCAAUCUCGAGAAGUCCCAACCAUUUUCCUCAAAAUCCUCUUAAUAUUCUUGUUUGCAGCCUCUACUGUCCCGUUGGUCUAUGGCCUAUAUGCUGAAGAUCUAUGAUGUCGGAUGCUAUACUCCUACAACAAAGUGUCUACCUCAGCUCAGAAGUGCACCCCUCUGUCUGAAAUUAGCUCAUGAGGAACCCCAUAACGACAAAUAAUGUGUCAUCUGAUGAAACUGGCAACCCUAGCGGAUGUCAACCUCGCAUAUGAUGCGGCUUCCACCCACUUGGUGAAAUAAUCUAUGGCAACCAGGAUGAACUCGUGACCACUGGAAGAUUUUGGUGAAACCUUCCUAAUAAUAUCAAUACCCCGUACUGAGAAUGGCCAUGGCGAGGUCAAGGCGUGUAACUCUGAUGGUGGUGCAUGUAUGAGAUCACCAUGAAUCUGACACUCUGGGCAUUUCUGGACAAACUGACAACAAUCUAUCUCCAUAGUCAACCAGAAAUAACUCGUCCUCAUAAUCUUACGGGCUAGCAUGUGUCCUCCCAUAUGCGGACCACAAACUCCUGAAUGAACCUCUCUCAUCACUCGAUCUGCAGAGGCUCGAUCUAAGCAUAACAGAAGCAUACCAUCAGCUGAUCGUCUAUACAAAGUAUCUCCGCAAAUCACAAAUCUAGUAGCCAAAUGCCUCAAUGCUCUCCGAUCCUUGGCAGUGGCUACCUCAGGCUAUGUGCCAGAUCUGAGAAACUGAUAAAUGUCAUGAUACCAAGGUAGAUCAUCCUGGUCCUCUAUCUCUCCAAUCAAACAACAAUAAGCGGGUGCAGACCUCGACUCAAUCAGUAAUGGACGUAUGACUACAUCAAUCAGAAUGUCCAUGAAGGAAGCUAAAGUAGCUAAGGCGUCAGCAAAUCGGUUCUGCGCUCUAGGCAAAUGAACAUAUCUCAAGUCGUCAAAUCUCGCAACCAACAACUCUAAAUAUGCAUGAUAUGGUCUAAGCUUCACGUCCCUAGUCUUUCAAUCCCCCUGAAUCUGCCUGAGUACCAGAUUGGAGUCACCAAAUACCUCCAUCUGUCUAAUGCCAAGCUCUAAUGCAGUCUCUAAACCCAGGAUGCAAGCCUCAUACUCAACUAUGUUAUUCGUGAUAGGAUGUCGAUCAUGAAAAGCCAAACAAACAGAUCUCGGAAUAUGAUCGCCCUGAGAGGACACUAACAAAACACCUAUCCCAUACCCUAACUGAUUGGCUGCACCAUCAAAGUACAAGCACCAUCCUGAUAAGCUAGUCAUAGCAACAAACUCCUCAUCUGGAAAAUCAUCAUCAACUGGUCUGUCUUCAGAUGUCGGUAGUGAAGCUAAGUGAUCGAUGACAAUACUUCCCUUAAUAGACUUCUGAGAAACGUACUGAAUAUCGAACUCUGUCAAAAGUACGAGCCAUCUCAUCAAUCUACCAGUCAAUGCAGGUCUAUCAAACAAGUAUCUCAACGGGUCUAGACAGAAUAUCAAAUGCACUGAAUACUCUGUCAUAUAAUGCCUCAAUCUCCUGGUAGCCCAAACUAGUGCUAAGCAAAGGCGCUCAAUCAUAACAUAUCUCAUUUCAUACUUCAGCAUCCUCUUACUCAAGUAGUAAAUAGCCCGUUCCUUCCCUGAGUCAUCAAUCUGAGCUAACAUACAUCCCAAGGCCAUGUCUGAAACUGACAAAUAUAGAAGAAGUGGACGUCCUGGUUUAGGAGACACUAAAACAAGAGGAUAAAGCAAAUACUCCUUGAUCUUCUCAAAUGCAGACUGACAGUCAUUAUUCCAAACUAUUGGCUAGUUCUUCCUCAAAAGAAGAAAGAUAGGCUCACAUAUGUCUGUCAAUCUGGCUAUGAAUCGAUUGAUGUACUGUAAUCUGCUUAGAAAACUCCUGAUCUCUUUCUCAAUCUUUGGUGCAGGCAUGUCAAGUAUGGCUUUGAUUUUAUCUGGGUCAACCUCUAUGCCUCGCUCACUAACCAUAUGCCCCAAUAAUUUCCCAGAAGUCACUCCAAAGGUGCACUUCUUGGGAUUCAACCUCAAUCUAAACUUCCAUAUCCUCUCAAAGAAUCUCUCUAAAGCAUCUAGGUGAUCUGCUCUACCUCAGGAUUUCACAAUCAUAUCAUCCACGUAAACCUCGACGUCCCUAUGCAUCAUGUCAUGAAACAAAGUGGUAGCGGCUCUCUGAUAAGUGGCUCCUGCGUUUUUCAACCCAAAUGGCAUAACUCUGUAACAGUAGGUACCCCACUCAGUAAUAAAGGUUGUCUUCUCCAUAUCCUCUAGAGCCAUCAAAAUCUGAUUAUACCCUGAAAACCCAUCCAUGAAAGACAACAUCGAAUGGCCUACGGUGCCAUCAACCAACAAAUCAAUGUGUGGAAGGGGAAAGUCAUCUUUAGGGCUGGCUUUAUUGAGAUCUCUGAAGUCAACACAAACCCUAACUUUGCCAUCCUUUUUAGGAACAGGGACGACAUUAGCCAACCACUCUGGAUACUCAACUACUGAUAUGAACCCAACAUUGAGUUGUUUUUUAAUCUCCUCUUUUACCUGUAGACUCCAACGUGGAUGCAAUCAUCUCAAUUUCUGCUUAACUGGCCUAGCAUGUGGUAGGAUAGGUAAAUGGUGCUGGACUAUAGAGGGAUCAAGACCUGGCAUGUUCUCAUAAGACCAUGCAAAGACAUCCAAGUAUGACCUGAGUAAAUGGAUGAGUCUAUCUCUCUCAUCUGUAGAUAGGGGUGAACCAAUCUUCAGCUCUCUAGGCUGAUCCUCUGUGCCAAAAUCAACAGUCUCAACAUCCCCUGUAGCAGUUGAAACUCUCUCAUCCAUGGGAUCAGAGUCAUGAUCAGAAGAGUCCCUAUCCGAAUCGGGCCAUGCAACUUCAUCAUUUAUAUCAAAUAUCUGUGAAGUGGGUGAAUGGGGUGCAGAUAUAGAGGUACUAUCACAAGAGACAGGCGAAUACUCAAAAAUGCUCAAAUUCAUAAAUGAAGCAACAGAAACAUCGUCAGAGCGGGAGACAAAUCCCGAUAAAACAUCAAAAGAAAGAUGUGGGUCCACAAGGUCAGAUGCUCCUUCAACUGAGCUAACAAUGCCCUCAAACAAACUACUAUCAUCCUCUGGAAGCCCUGGAACAGGAAGAGUCUGAGUCCCCUCAAGAACCUCAAUGGUAGACACCCCAAACAUAUCAAAUGCUGAGACAGGCUGAAGUUGAACAAUGCUGGUAAUCUGGCCCAUGGUCAUCAUGUCCAUCUCAUCUCGGUACUCAUCAUGGGAAACAACUCCAUCAAUCAUCUCAGUAGAAUCAACCAUCACCCCAUCACCAGUGAUCUCCUCUGGAAAGCAUAGAGACAACAUGCUAGCUCGAUCUGGAGACGUGGGAGUAAUAGUCAAAGGGAAAGAAGAGUCGGGAGCCCCAUCACUCAACUGUAGCUGGUGAAAUAGAUGCUGAAGAUCGGUCUCUCUAUCUGUAUGAACCACACUAUCAAUCUCCUCUAGACGAGGUCGAGUCUCUGAUCCUCUGACAAAGUAGUCAACCAAACUCAUCCUAUAGGGUCGAAUAGGAUAGUCAAAUGGUGUGCGGGAUAAACGGGCUCUCACCUUCUCCUUGCGCAGCCACGCCAUGUGACGGUAAUCGGCCUCAGUGGGGAUGAAUCCAAGUCCAAAUGUCAUAUCAUGGUCAAUGGCAGCUAUGAACUCGCUCGGUCCCUACUGACGUUGUCCUAACCCCAUGCCAGGUAGAAAGGUCAUACCCCUCAUCAUAUCAAGGACCACUGUGCUACUGUGUUGAUCAAAUGACAUAGCCCCAAAGUCUCUACAAAAAUCCUCAAUCUCGAGAGUCUGUAUCUCAUCAAAAGUAAACCCAGUCAGAAGUAGGUCGUCCUCAUUGUGACUGAUCUGAAGUACUGGCUCAGAAGCGGCAAAUAUAUCCCUGGUAGAGCGCACUGUGAUGACCUGCCCAUCAUGAAUAAACUUCACCUUCUGAUGAAGGGAAGAAGGAAUAUCUCCAGCUACAUGAAUCCAUAGUCGGCCCAGUAGCAGGUUAAAGGAUAUAGGGAUCCUCAAAACCUGGAACAAAGUGGAAAAUGUGGCUGGAUCAAUCUGCAAAUCAAUCAUCAAGGUACCCAUAACCUCCUUCUUGGUGCUAUCAUACGCCCUGACUGUCUGAGUAGAAGGACCAAAAUCUGAAGGCGCAAAACCAAGGGCUAUAACAAUGGCUAAAGGGCAAACAUUCAGGGCUGAGCCGUUGUCCAGUAGGACAGACGGGACUCUACGGCCUGAACAUCCAACUGUGAUGUAUAGAGAACGCACGUGGUCUAAACCAUCAGGUGGCAAGUCAUCAUCUGAAAAUACAAUGCAAGUGGCCCUGCCAGCCGUCAUCAUAUGAAUCAAUCCCUCUGGAGUGGUGGUAGUCUCUACUCUGAUCUGACUCAAGGCUCGAAUCAAAGCAUCUCUAUGAGUACUGGACGAUGCUAAUAAACUCCAGAUGGAAAUGCGAGCCUGAGUGCUCUGUAGUUGUCUCAAAACCUCAUCAUCCUCUCUCCUAACCUCCUCAUGAGAGGCUGUACCCUCAAAUGGUCUGACUGCUGGUGGUGGUGGUUGAGCUAUCCUCCCACUACGAGUCACAAUCUGUAUCUCUCUCCCUACUGAGUCAUCAUCCUCUGGCCAUAAAGUGAAUGGGACAAAAGCAUCCUGACAUCCGAUAACUAAAGGUGUAGGAUGAGUCAACUGGAAUGGUGCCUCGUCCGGGAUCAAACUGAAUGGUGCAGGAGUUUGAGGGACCACUGAAACCCCAUCAACCUCAUAACUGUCAUGCAAAACAAUCGGCUCGGGUAAUCUAUCAUCCCAACUCAACAUGUGUAUACUGUCAUCCUUUAUAAGGUCCAUGUGAUGAAUAUCUCCUGAAGGUGGAUGCACUGUGUGUGUAGAAUGAGCAGGAAGAGGGUUAGUGGUCACACUUGGCUGCCCUAAGUUGACCAAACCCUGUGUGGACCCCACAUUUCGUGCUCAUAUGUUUUCCACUCGAUGGCGAGCUCGAUUUUUAUUUGAAAAAUUGAUUUGUCAUUGAUUAAGAAAAAUGACUUGGAGUCGCCACUUAUUUUUUUUUUUUUUUUUUUAAAGGGUAAACAAAAUAAGAAAGAAAACCCUAAGUGUGACUCCUUAUUUUGGAAAAGGUGAUCUACAAAAAUCGGAUCGGGUUCGGGGGUCAGGUUACUUAUCGGGAAGGUACGGUAAAGACCGUAGCACCCCUCUAAGUCCCUAAAGUCGGGUCUCUACUAAUGAGAUGAAGCUAACAUGGCAAUCAAUGAGAGAAUCGAUGAAUACUCAAAUCGAUCAUGCACAAUAUGAGAAGCAAAGCAUGUAUAAAGAAAGAGCAAAAUAUGAAUAGAUGCGUACCUGGGCGGCAAUCACGAAUGCGCUAUCAUGAAACAUGGUUAGUGAACAACGAACAGAUAUAAUUAAGCGCAUAUCAAGGAAUAGAGUAAAUAAAUCAUGCAUGACAAAUAAAUCAACCAAACAGUCAAUCAAUCAUUCAAUCAAUCAUAAAGUCUCAUAUGUAGGGCCCUCACCAAAGCCCAUUUAUUUUUGUAUGAAUUAAUCCCAUGAAUUUCCAUCAUUCGGAAUUACGGGAAUAAAUUCAUACUUAUUUUAAAACAUUUUUUAAAAAAUAAAGAAAAUUCGAAAGUGGCUUGCCGAAAAGAAAAUGACGGCCAAAUUUUAUUGAAAAUGGGAUUUUGAUACCUAAAACUCUAAGAAUGAAAAUUUUGGAGUUGAGAUUAUUUCUAAAAAUGAGGAUCUGGAAAAUUAUUUAAAAAAAUGAGGUCUGAAAAAUUAUUGUCAAAGCCGAAGAGGAUAAAAAGGGAAGAUGUCACGUGACCAAAAGUGGUCGUGCAACUGGAUACGUGCAUGCAUGGGACUGGGGUGGAAUGAGGGGAUUGGAUUCUUCAAGAUUGGAGACUGCUUGGAAGCAGUCUGUAGCAUCAUCUAUUCGUCCAUCAUCUUUGUGAGCCAUUCCCAGGUAGUACCAAGCCAUUUGAUUGGUAGGCUACAUCCUCAAUGCAUCUGAAAGUAGGUUUCUCGCAGUAGGAAAUGCCUUCGAGCCCAUCUUCAACAACAGAGCACCAAUCAAGAUCUUGCAAGGCACAUAACCCGGAUCUAGUAAAAGGGCAUUGAUAUAAGCAGUCAAAGCUUCUUGGAUUUGCCCAUGACCUUCAAAUUUAACACCUUCUGCAUGCAGUAAGUCCACUGAGUAUUCUUUCAACUCUCCAGCUUUUCCACUGAGUAUUCUUUCGACUCCCCAACUUUUCCACUGACCACCAGCAUAGUUACUACCCGUGAAAAGAGCAUGAGCAAGGGAAUAGUCCUUUGCCUUGUAAUGCUCAAAGCCAUGUACAGGCAAGGCAUCUAUCGCAAGCUCAUCAUUAUUCCAUAUGACUAUGUGUACUUCAGGUCUUUACGCAUUUCCCUGGCGUGAUGGAAUGGUGCUGCUAAAUUCAUUCUCUCCAUCUUCUUCUCUAGGAAUAUAGGCUGGUUCAUGCUGGACUUGGAAACAUUCUUGUGAGUCUCAUUGGUUCCAUUAGACUGAUUUGCUCUUAUUGAAGCAAUCUUCACAGAUGUUCCCCAACCAAUGACCAAGAGAGUAUCAUCCUGCCACACUAAGCGAGGGACCAAAAUCUCAAGACGUGAGCUUCCUCGGUCUCUGAAACUUCCUCUUUCUGCAAUUUAGCCGUGGCUAAAUCUUUGGUUUCCGCUUCCAUUGAGUGCUCUUCUAAUUGGUUCAAAUCUGGAGUUUCAUCAUCUCAUGACGUGAUGUCAAUUGCCUCAUCACAUUCAUCUUGACUACCAUCUAAAAUUCUAGCUUCCUCUGCUUUUAUCUGUUCAACAUUCUCGGACUCAGAAACAGCACGUAUGGCGGGCUCCCCUUCUGUUGCAUGUUGAAAUAGUGCUUCAAGCUCAUGAGUUUCUAGAUUUUCACUAAUCGAAUGUUGCUCUGAUUCAUUCAUGUCUGGAGCUUCAUAGUCUGCCAUGGUGACAUCAGUUGUCUUGACACAGCUAAUUUGGUCACCCUCUUAGACCGUAUCCUCUUCUACUUCAAUAUUUCCAUCAUUCUCUGACUCAGGAACAGCAUUAGUGGCAGCCUCCUCUUCAAUUACCCCUUGUAGCAGUUCUGCACCCUCAUUCAUUUAAUGAUAAACCCACUGCUACUAGAACCAUAUUGCUAAUUCCGCUGUUAUAGCAGCAAGAAAUUCGAAUCUGUGUGCAGGCAAGACACCUUCAUCAAUUUCGGUACCAAUAGAUUCCCCUACAUUCCCUCGCUAACCCAGAACCAAACUCUCACCACCUGAGAGAUAAUUGAACGAAUGGAAUCGAAGUGCUUCUGGAGGGUCAAGGCAGCCAAGAGUGUAGGGUAUGUUACCAAGGAUGGUUUACAUAUUUCUUGGGUUUCAGAGAUUGAUGAUGGAAUAAAGCAUGUAUUGGACUAAGGACAUGGAGGUUUAGAAAAAGAAGUGGGUAGAUGAAUGUGAAGGAUGCGUGGUGCAGGAGAUGGGUAUGAGAAGGUUGAAUAAUGAGAGCAAAGGACUUUGUGUGUAUUAAGUGAUGGAAUGAAAAUGGAUGAUGUGGGGCAUGGUGAGGAAAAGAAUGGAUGAGUUGGGUAUUGGAGAGUAGGGUGGUGAUUAGUGAGGUAUGCCAGAUGGUCUUAGCUAAUGAAGACAAACAUGGUAUGGGUAUGGUGAUAAUAUAGAGAGAGAAGUGGGUAUGUGAGUAAUGGAAGUGUAUGAGGGGUAUAGAAGACGGGUGACAUGGGUAUGCAAAUGAGAAUGGGUGGUAAGAAAAAAUGGGUAAGCUGAUAGACAUGAUGAAGUGAAGACAUUGGAGAUGGUGGGCAAAAGAGAAACGAAACAGGGGUAUGGAUGUGGCCCCUUGAUUAGGUAUGAUCUCUUGGCACUCUCCCAUCAUUUUAUGUACUUCAAUUGUUUCACUUGCAGUGUUCUGACUUAACACCAGAACCAUUCCCACCAAACACUUUAGUUUGAUCCUCUUCAAUAAUGGUCAAACAUUGAACAGAAGAUUCAAAAUCUCCAGUCUUCUGCAUUGACAGAUUUUCUGCAUUGUGUUAAUUUCUCACCACCAAGAUUUGACUCAGCAACUCCACAGACUGCACCCAAACAUUGCACUUUUACCUCGUCAUGCUUACUGACAUCAAGUACUUAAGAACCUUUAUCCUGGUUUUAAAGGCAAGAAUGUGUUUCUGUUAUAUCGAUUUCAACUCUGCUUGGAUCUGAAACUUCAUACAAAUCCUUGUUUUCAGUUUCAGGUAAGUUUCUCACGGGCACAUUCAUAUCAUCCUCUGCAGCAACCUGGGAUUCAAAUAGACUGCUUGCAAAUUCAAGGAUACUCAUCAUAAUAUUUUCCUUUCCUUCCCUGCUUUCCUUUUCUGUUAUCUCACAUUUUGUUAUUUCAACCUUGUCAUUGUCUCCUCAAGAGCUUCAGAACAGAGCCCCAUCCCAAGCUCAUGUAGGUCAAUGUGAACAUCUGGGUCAAUACCAACAUGGGUUCUGAACAGUUGAGUAAAUCUAAAGAGCCAACCAUCCAUCUCCACUUCCUUGGGCUCAAGGUCAUCCGAAGCUCCAGCUUUCUCCUUUGGAGUUUCAUUCUCUGUCUUUUCAAUCUCUGCACCCACAGUGUCCAGCACUGAAUCACCUAAUGAAGAGUGAGAGUCGUUAUCCUCUCCCUCAAGCCCCUUACUCUCAGGAGGCCUCUUCUUCUCUGUUAACACUCGCAGCUGAACGUCCAAACCCUGUUCUCGAAGUGACAGUAUCUCAUAUCUGAUGGGUAGGCAACAUUGCCCCUUGCUAAGACCCAAAUAUGUACCCUGAACCACCAACAGUAAAAAAGAUAACACUAAUGCCCUGAUAUGGCCAUCACCAAUAUUUUUUAGCAUAAUAACCCAGCAAUCUCACGAACAAACGAAACAAACUGCUACCCAAACUCAGAAGCUGUGCCCAUAAAGAAAUCAAAGUAAUGCUAGCCAAAAACUCUUCUCCUUAGAGGGCAUGAAUGGCCAUCGAGAACAGAACAUGAACAGCAAGGAUGCAAGCACAAAAACAGAGUAUCAAUUGAACCAAAGAAAACACCGACCCGAGCUCUAUUUCAUAUUGGAGUCAAUAGGCACAUGUAUAGGUGGGAAAAUCAGUGGAAAUAGGACCCAAAUACAUGACUCAGACACCCAAUGGAGAGAUAAAAAGGAAUCAGAUCACUCUUAAAUCAGUUUUUCAUGAAGAACAAGGCACAAAUUAUUUAUAACACAAUCACAACAAUAUCAAGGAAAACUACUGCAACAAGUAUAUGGUCCAGAAAACGCACCUGAAAGGCUUCCCUCCAACUGAAAUGAGCAAGGAGACUGUUGUGUUUUUCCUCUCCUCACGGUUUGCUUCCUCCGGGAUCCCCCUUCUCUCCGUAACCAGCCUCCAGGAACCUCCCCACUCCUCUGGUUUCUCUCUCUGGUUUCACUCUAAAAAAAAAUGCUCUGUCCUGAUUACUACCAAAAAGUGCUAUUUUUUAGACCUAAUUAUAAUGGUUUUAAGCACCUUUGAGUAGUAAUCAUAUUCAUUUAACCCAAUUAAUUCAUUAAGGUCCUUAGUAAUUGGUUUUAACCAUUUUGUGGCAAGUUUACAUGUUUUUAUCAGCUUAUGAAUCAAUUCAAGCAUGCCAAAUGAUGGAGGAGCUACUUGAACAAGUUAUGGCAAAGCUUUUAGAAGCUCAAAUUCAUGAAGAACCAAAGCUUUGAAGUCCUUUUCCAUAAGCAAAUCCGGAAUGCAAGGAGGGAAAGCAAAGAGAAAUCUGCCAUGAAGCAUUCUUGAUGACAGUCAUGUCAGCCACUUUUGGAGCACUUUCUGAAGUCCAAUUGAUGCAUUCUAUAUACCAUUUCAAAUCUCAGGAAGUCAACAAUCCACUGCUUCAAACGGUGUGCAAUUUGGAGUUGAAACGAAGAAGUUACAGCCAUUGCAAGCCAAUCACUCCAACCUGAAGGAAGCAUUUUGCAAAGUGUUGCGAAAUCACCCUUUUGUUGCGAAGUGAUUCCGCAGCCUUUUUGUAUAGUAGGGUGUAUUUCCUUCUGAAGUUGCCCGACAUAUACCGCGAGAGGGAAGCUUAGAACCUCAAGGUGGAAGCCAACUUUGCAGCCCUGCGAAGAUAGCAUGUUGUUGCGAAAUGAUUUCGCAGCCCUCUUGAGUGUCUACGAAAUCUCGCAGACACCAUUUUCUCUUGCGAAAUGGUUCCUGGAGCCUCCCGAUAUUUGCUACCGACAUUGGGAGAUAUUUUGCAUCAGAUUUUUGUUGUCUAAAUCCCAAAAUACUCCUUGUAAGCCACCAAUUACAAGAUUCCUUAGCUUUUAAGUUAGUAAAAAGAGUAAAUAUGUAUGUAAUAAUUAGUUUUAUAUUAUUUUCUUUAUAUAUAGCUCUCGGGAGCUUGUUCUCGAGAGAGGAUCUAAGAUAGAAAUAGAUAGAUAUAUCAUAUAUAGAAUCAACGAACAGAGCACUUGCUCUGUUUUUCUUAUAUAUUCUUGUUUUCUCGUUAGUUUUCUUGCUAGCCAAACAUUCUCUAAGGAUUUUUCCUCAGAGGAUGAGAGGCUAGGCUCUUUGUCUCUUGGAGUGAGGAAAGCCGAGUAAGUUUCCACAUGCAUAAUUUGGAAGUUUUGUUGUUUUAGUUUUUAAUGAAGAGAAAUUGUGACCCUUUAAUGGUUUUUAUCUUUUUAGUUAACUUAAAAUGCCUUUAAAUCAUCCUGGGCCAACACUUGGUAAGGCAAGUGAUCUCCAUCCAUGGAGAUUCACUAGUUUACCCCUUGCGAGCCUUUGGGAGGUGACUUGAAGGUAGGAUUUUCUAGAAUAGCCAACACUUGGUAAGCUUUUGGACUCCAAGGAGACAUCCAUUAGUUAUCUCUUGCGAGCUUUUGACGGGUAAUCCAAGGUUAAAGAUCACCUUGAAUGGCAAGUGCUAGGUGAGAGGUAUGAGCCAUUGCAAGGUGCAUCAGUGAGAGGGAUUUAGUGUUUGAACCCAUUAAUGGGAAGCAUCUGUACAACACCGGUUGGAGAAGGAACUAUAUGUUAAUUCUCUAAUGCGAGGAAAAGAAACAAGUGACCGGAACUCCCUUUUUGUAUGAGGAACCUAAGCCUAGUGAUCUAAACUCUAAGAAACACUUUUCUUUGUAAGUAAAAUCAGUUACUAUUUGUGGUUAGUUUAAAACCAAACAUUUUCCAACUCAAGUUUAUGUUUUCUUUUAAAGCUAACCUUGAAAUGAAAAAUCACCAAUUCAGCUUUGAAUUAAUAUCAUUUGCAAAGUGAAAACCCAUCCCAGUGAACGAUCCUAGAGCCACUAUGCUAUAGUAGCUUUGUCUUUGCUACCCUAGUAUAUGGUGUAAUAGGUUAUAAAUUUUGUUGAUUACUACCUCAAUCAAGGAGCACCAGCUGGACACGAAUCAGCUGAGACACCAAUUGGGCACGAAUCAAAUGGCGCCGCUGCCGGGGAUCGAACCCCGAAUCAAAUGGUGCCAUUGCCACUGCCGCUGCUAGGGAUGAAUCAUGUCCUCUCUCUCCUGAAACAUGCUCCAUUUUUCUCUCUCUGGUUUCACUCUAAAAAAAUGCUCUGUCCAGACGACACCCCCUUCCUGUAGCUGGCAACCUCUCCAAAAGCACCUCACCUCCAUCUGCCAGCAUCUGCUCCUCUAACAGCCAGUAUAUUCCCAUGUACGCGUCACCUCCUGAUUGGCUCCCCAAACCACUAUUAUGAUUCUCUCAUGGCUUCUCAGGUGCUGACACGUGGCUGACCAAGGCUCUUCCACGUGGUAAAAUUGAGCUGCAAGGUAGGAAUGACCUAAAAGGGGGUCUACACCCUGAUCUAUCAAAUCCUGAAUAGCAUGUCUCAAAGCAGUGCAAUGGUCUGUGUCAUGCCCUGGUCCCUGAUGGUAGGAACAAUGUAAGUCCAUCCUGAAGCGAGGUGGUAUGGGUUGGGGUAAAGGCCUGGAUGCUAAUGAAAUCAGUAAUCCACCCUCUGUGAGCUUCUGAAAAGCUUGAUUCAAAGGCAUACCCAACUGAGCAAACUGACGUGGUGGCCUCUGCACAUAAGUAGUGGUCUGUGGAGCUCGGGGUCAAGUAUAUGGGGCAAGAGGCCUCUCUGCGACGUGUGCAGCAAAAACAGGUUGUGAGUCCGGAUGCAGAUAAGUAGGAGUCAUAGGUCUGGAAGGAGUAGGUGGUCUGUAAUGGGCAUUGAGGUGAAGGUGGAUAGUAGUACCCAAGAGUCUGCCUAACUGUCUGAUAGCGUCUAGAAGGUCUCAUCCUUGCUGAACUGAUAGCACCAACAUCUCCUGAUCUCUGUCCUCCUGAAGGCCUCUUCCCUUUAGAAUCAGUAGGGGAGGACUCAGACCAUAAUCCUCUAGCAAUGCCCUCCUCUAUACCAUACAAAGCCUGUACCAAAGACCCAAAAUCUGUGUGAGGGAAUCCCAUCAAGUGUCUGGCGAAUCUAGGUUGCAAGCUCCUCAUGAUCAUGCUAAUCUGAUCUCUCUCUGAAGGACAAUCUAUAAUCUAUGAAAUCUUCUCCCUCCAGCGGGAGAUAAAUGAAGUAACUGACUCCUCUGGCCUCUGUCUCAAAGCCUCCAACUCUCUCCUCGAAACAUCAAUGACAGUGUUAAAUGCAAACUGUCUCAAAAACUCCUGGGCUAAGUCAUCCCAAGUCCUACGGCGUGAUACCUCCAAUGAAGCGAACCAACGCUGUGCAGCACCACUCAAUGACAUAGGGAAAAGCAUAACUAUCUGGGCAUCAUCCAGUCCAUGGGCCCUCAUAAUAGUACUAUAGAGUCUCAAAUGGAUGCGAGGGCAUCCUAUGCCUGUGUAUCUCUCAAUCUCAAGCAUCCUGAACUUGGCCGGUAGACAGGCCACUAGUGCUCCAUCAAAAUCCUCCCAAGUAAUAGCUCCCUCUGAACUCCUCAUCUGUCUCAACUUCUGCUCAAGUUUAUCCAUACGAACAUGUGGAUCCUCUGAGAUCGGAGUAGGCACUAUGGCAGGAGGUGGUGCAACCUCAGUCUGACUAUGCAGAGUAAAAGAUAUAGUCUGUGGUGCUGGCUGACUGUGCGGAGGUGGUCGUGGUACUGUUGUAUCAAACUGGAUAUCCUCCUGAACUGGGACUUGUCGGGCCUGCUACCCAUCUAUCCUCUGGCCAAGGCUAGCUAUAGCCUCCUGGAUCGAAGCCAUGGCCGCAGCAAACUGGUCAAUGGUAACUAUCUGAGAAUCCAUAUCCCCCUGAUCUGAUCUCUGGUCUAACUGGUUGGAUGCUCUGGUCAAUCUGCCUCCAACUCUAAUCCACGAAGGUGAAUCCAGACUGGUCAGGGUAAACUCUCCUACAAGUAUGGAAACACUGGAUAAGGUGCGGUACGAAAGCGACUCUGUAUGAAUCAACUGAUAAGUGUGCAAGAAAAUAGCCCAAAUGUACUCAAUCUGACAUCCUCCUCUGAUUACACCAAAAGGAGACUAAGGAAGGGAUAACCAAAUCCAAUCGUGACCAAGGCAGCUCUGAAGGUCCACAGAUGCACCCACGUGUAGGAAUGAAAUCUUAAUUAGGUCUAGGAUAACCUACAAGGUUAAGGCGGCUCUAUAAGAUAAAAUGGGUGGGUCAAAGGAUCCCUAGCAGAAGCGAUCGUACCCUCCGGCGGUACGCAACCCUCUGCACGCCUCCACGGAGACGGGGUGCUUCCAUGCAAGGUGGUCAUUACCUCCACACAUGCACUUCCUCGCGCUCCCAGGGGGUUUCUUAAGGUUGAAGGCUCUCCCAUCUCUCAACACUCAGGAAUAAUCUAAAGUGCACAAUGAAGGAUAUGGGUGCAUCCGAAAAACCUAAGAUCUAAAGUGAGAGAGUGAACAAAGACAAGCGAUCAUACGAUCAUGCAAGAGAAAGGGUUGUCAUGCAACAAGCAGUCAUACUAAGCAGAUGAAUAUCAUAAAAUCAAAGUCCUAUCUAGCAUAUGUGAGAGUGAAUCAUGCUGAAGUGAGCAAGCAAUCAAGUGAUCAUCCAAGGCAAUCAAACAUGUCAAGAUAGCAGACCAAUCAAGCAAAUUGAAUCACCUUGCCUAGGAAAGGGGGGUACCCUCUAAUUAAUCAAUUAAACGCCACAUUUUCCUUAACUAGUGUUCAAGCUUGAUCCUCAAAAUCCCCAGUGGAGUCGCCAAUUUGUGGACCCGCAUUUUUCACGUGCGUCCCCACUCGAUUGGUGAAACUCGCUUUUUAUUUAUGAAAAAUUGAUUUUUGAAAAAAAGUUGGAGUCGCCACCUAUUUUAUUUUUAUUUUAAAGGGAAAAUAAAACAAGAAAGAAAAACCCUAAAAAGUGACUCCAUAGUUUUGGAAAAAGCAUGUCUUUGAGAAACCCGAGUCUAGGUCUGGGGAUCAGGUUACUUAUUGGGAAGGUACCUUUAGGAGGUAGCACCCCUCUAAGCCCUAAAGAGGUCCCUACUGACUAAGUUAAGGGAAGUGUGGCCAUUAUUUAGUUAAUUAUGGAUACCUAAGUAGGUUAGGUGAUUUUAAAGUGUGGCAUGUCAAACGCAAUCAAAUUGCAAUAAAGGAGAGUUAGGGUGCGUACCUGAACCGUUCUUCAAGCGCUAUCAUAAAACAUAAAAGUUAGUGUAGAAAUGUAGCACACAACAUUUGUUUUAUUUAAGCAAAUCAAGCAUAUAUCAAGACAUCCAAGAAUCACGUCAAAUAUGGAUAUGGUCAUCAAUGACAUACAAGUCCAUAGAGUUCUUAAAAAAAUAGAUGAGAAGAGAGCGUACCUGGAUAGCAAACUAGUACUCCUCUAUGGGUAACAGGAGUAUUUCAACAAUAAAUACAAAACAAAUUCAUGUAUAUCAUCAAGAAGAAUCAAGCAUCAACACAUCAAACAAACAAUAUCGAAGAGAAAAUCAUGAAUGUAGGGCCCCCACCAAAGCCCUAAUUAAUUUUGCAUGAGUUGGUUCCAUAAAUUCCAUGAUUUGGAAUUAUGAAGUUUAUUCAUGCUUGUUGAAAAUCAAGAAGAUCAAUUGAAAAUCAAAUAAAAUAGUGAAAAUGUGUGCCGGAAGGAAAAUGGCAGCCAAGAAUUUAUUAAAGGUCUAGAUUUAAAUGUCUAUGAACUCCUAAGGAUGAAAUUUUAAAGGAAAUAAGAGUUAUUCAAUGGAAAAUAUUUUGAAAUCCAAAUUUAAAAUGAAUGUGUAAAUUCACAAGCGAACGGAAGGAGCAUCAAGAGGACAAGUGAAUCAAGCCAGCCAUGUUGGAGAGGGCCCUGUGACUAUGCUACUUAAUCUCUGUUUGUGCCUGGACAAUUGAACCUUUCCUAUAGUUUAUUCUUCUGUCUUUCGAAAUUCUCUGUAUUGAAGCAUGCCUCAAGAUGAAUUAGAAUUGUCCUGUUUGACGAAAACUCCCUUAAAAGAAACGGGAAGAAGAUCUGUAUCCCCAUUAAAAGCUCUACUAAUUCCAUAACAGUUCCAGAAUUCUGCAUCAAUUGGCCUCUUAGCUGAACAAACAAACAAAGUCUGUAUGUGCUUCCUGUUUAUCCAUCAAGGGCAAAUUGAAGAUUUCCCUGAUGUCACAUCGCGAGCUUCGUUCCAUCCAAAUCCUUCAUCAUUCAUCAGUAAUUAUAUCAAUUCUGGAAUAGCAGGGGUAGGGUGUGUAUUUUUCAAUUGCGCUGCUACCUUACUGGGAAAUUCAGACCAUUGCCACGAGUCUUCAUCUAUCCUCUCCAUGAAUCUGAAAAUAAUGUCUUGAAGUGGGGCGUUGCAUAGGAAAAAUUGUUGUUUUAGUCGUGAGAGCUUCCCAAUUUCGAUGUAGGGAAGUCAGCUGCAUCCUCCCAAUCAUCUGGCUUGGCCUUAGGCUGAUCAUCUUUAUAUUCUUUUGGAGGGUCAACACACUUGACAUUGCCAUCAUCAACACUGCUGUUCUGACCUAAUGUGGCAUUCUCACACCUAUUGCAAUCACCUUCUCCGUUCUCAGUUGAGAGUUUCAAUGCUACAACAUCUAAACAAGUGAGCAACCUCCUCCCCUGAGCCAGUGUUUUUGAGUCCCUCGAAUCAUGAAAAAUAGAAACUGACCUAGCAAAAUCAAGUAAACCAGUAAAACCCAAGCUUUGUCUAAGGCCAAGGCUAACUAAAGUCUCCAAAGUUUCAGGAUCUGAGAACUUGUCAAGGGGGAAGAAAACUUCUCUGUGAAGCAUGUCUUGCAAUUCGGGAACUCGAGGAUCAUAUAGCCUGGAUGGUUGUUGCCAUGACCCAUUGGCAGCCAAAAAAAAGGGUGUGAUGGAAAGUGUAAGUUUAAUUGAGGUAUCUUCUUCAAUCAAAAGUUUCACAUCAUGUAAAAUGGCUGAAAGUGCUCCCUGCUGUGAAAGAAAUUCUGGCAUGCAAGUGACUACAUAAUCUUUGUAGAAUUGUGCCCUUGAAGGUUCCUUAACCUCUAAAUACCUUCUCAGGAUGAUUCUUUCUUUUUCUGAAUCCGUGCGUACAAAGUCAUCAUUCAAAAGAUCUUCAGACACACCAUUUGGUUUAAGCAAUUUAGUGGGUUUACUCAAACAUACUAGUUUUCUACUUCUGAACGAUUCAAACAUGGGAAGGUGUUUGAUGACAUCAAUAUGUGUGUCAUCCAUCUGACCUUCAGAGAACCACUUUGACUGAAGAAUAAAACUCCUGAGUUCAUGAAGCUCCCCUUCUGAUGCAUCACAGAAAAGUUUCUGAACAUUCUCCGGAUUAUGAGCAAGUGCCAGUAAGGCAUUCAAAAUGCCAGUUGCUAUUGGCAGCUGCACAUAAUUUUUCAACUGUGGAUGCUCUAUAGGCAGGUCAUUCCUCAAAAAUAGGCAUCCUACUUUCAAUAACAAAGAACACAUGUUCUCACUCCACCCAUCAUCUUUUAUCACAUUUGAAUUUUCAAUCAGCUUCAAGAGAUAAUUAUUCCCAACUGGUAAAAUAGGCCACUUCGAAAAUUCUGAGAGAUCAUCACAACAUGACUUCAAAUAACUCCAUAGCAACCUUAACCAUUCUAAACUUGGUUGGCCUUGAUGACCAGGGUUCCAAAUUACCUGUUUGGCAUGCUGCCACUCUGCUGGGAGUAAUCUUAGGAAAAGUUUUUCAAGCAAAUAGCAUGUCAGAAAAGAAAUAUUUAAGUCUUCUGUUUGGGCAAUAUCACAUAGCUUCAUGUGAAUUCCUUCCGGAAUUCCAGAGUCUACAAGUUGAUGUGGAAUUGAAUCCUUAAGAAGACCAUACUCAUCUCCACGUGCAAUAUAAAUCCUUUCACCCACUCCCAUCUUGUCAAAUGCUGUAAAUAAACCAUUGGCAAGGGGUACCAAAGGUAAACCAUACAAACUAUCAGAUCGAACUGGCAUUUUCAAGUCAAGUAAGCAAUAUUCAAGUGUCAAUAUCAUUGCAUUCCUGUCCCUAAAUCCACGUUUCCGCCGAAUCAACAGAGUUCUCAGCAACUAAGGUGUCAGGAAACGCAAUGAUGGACAAAACUCCAUAAGCCUCUCGACAAGUGGCUUAGAAGGAGACACGAGAGGUAGACCAGCAUCAGAUAAUACUUCUACAAGCUCAUGUGCCUUACUGAAAGUAAAAUCAGUAAAAACAGCUUGUUUGGCGGAAAUCCACUGGCCCCCUCUAGCUUUUGUAUACAAUACAGAAAGAUCAGAAUUAGCAAUAAAAUUAUAGAGUUUCUGCACCAUUGAUGCCCAAGGUUCUAUUCCAAUGCUAGUUGACCAAAAUGAAAAGAACAAAUCACAUGGACCAAGUUCCAAUGCAAUUUUCUCAAGCAAAUGACCAUAAGCAGGGGCAGCAACAUCUUCAAGCACGUAAAUGUUCCAUUCCGAGCGUUUUUUUUUCACCCCCUGCCAUGUCAUUGCCAAACCAGAUAUCCCUUCCAUUUGAUGACAAUUCAAAAUAUGCAUUAACAUGUGCUGGAAGACCAGUACUGAUCGGCAGUGGUAAAAAGCAGAAUGCACGGCCCUCAAAAUUCUUUCUAUCUUGAAUAGAAGAAGCAGGAACUUCAAAGACAUCAGAAAUAGUUUCACAAGUUCUCUCAGUAUGCGGAAUAUCACUCGAUUCCCUAUCAACCUUGACAGAGUGUAAAUAUGCAGCAACACAAGCCCAAGGAAUUAAAUUAUGAGACUUCGAGGGUGCAGAGUUCUUAACUUGCCCAACACCUAAACAUUCACUGGUUAUUGAUUACUACCAAAAAGUGCUAUUUUGUAGACCUAAUUAUAAUGGUUUUUAAGCACCUUUGAGUAGUAAUCAUAUUCAUUUAACCCAAUUAAUUCAUUAAGGUCCUUAGUAAUUAGUUUUAACCUUUUUGUGGCAAAGUUGACAUGUUUUUAUCAGCUUAUGAAUCGAUUCAAGCAUGCCAAUUGAUGGAGGAGCUACUUGGGCGAGUUAAGCAAGGAUUUUGUACUUUUAUAGGCUUGAAUUUCAAGUGGAAACACGAGCACAAGCAAUGGAGAAGAGGAAAACAGAGUGAAGAAAACAGCUGCAGUAUUCCUUUGAACUUUUGGAGCACUUCCCGAAGUCCAUUUUUUGCAUGCUAUAUACCAUUUGAAAGCUUAGGAAGUCAAGAAUCCAAAGCUUCAAACCGUGUAUGAUUUGGAGCUGAAAUGAAGAAGAUAUGGCCUUUGGAAGGCAACUGCAUCAUGUCAAAUGACCAAUUUCGCAAGGAGAUUUUCUUCAUGGUGCGAAAUUUUGCCACUUCGCACCAUGAAGAAACACAUUGCGAAAAUUUCGCAAGGAGGAUUUAGGCACAUUGCGAAAUUCCUUUGAAUCCCCUGUUUUGAGACGUUGUUGAUGUUAUUCCACUACCGGUUCUCCAAGAUAUUUUGCUUGAUUUUUAGCUUUGUAAAUACCUAUUUUACCCUNNNNNNNNNNNNNNNNNNNNNNNNNNNNNNNNNNNNNNNNNNNNNNNNNNNNNNNNNNNNNNNNNNNNNNNNNNNNNNNNNNNNNNNNNNNNNNNNNNNNCAGUCACCAGCCCAAUCAAGCCAACAGAGUCAAGGUCAAUCCUCAAUUGAGCAAGCACUCGUAAGCCUUAGCAAGGUUAUGGGUGACUUUGUGAGUGAGCAAAAAUCCAUCAACUCUCAACUAAAUCAGAAGAUUAACAACGUAGAGAGUACAUUGAACAAGAAGAUAGAUGGGAUGCAUAAUGAGUUGUCUCAGAAAAUUGACAACAUCCAAUAUUCCAUCUCAAGGCUCACAAAUUUGAACACUGUCAAUGAGAAAGGGAAGUUUCCCUCUCAGCCUCACCAAAAUCCUAAGGGGAUACAUGAAGUGGAAUCCAAAGAUGAGGAUUCUUCAAAGGUGAGGGACGUGCAAGCUAUUAUCACUUUGAGAAGUGGUAAGGAAGUGCAUCAGCCGGAGCAUGAUCAGAGGAAAGCCAAAGAAGACAAGGCUGAUAGAAAAGAAGAAAAGAAGAAAGAACAAAAGGGAAAGGAAGUUCAGAUGAAAGAAAGCAUCAUUCCAAGCAUGGAUGAGGAACCUCAAAUUCUUUUAAAGGAAGAAAUGAUGAAGAAUCACAUCCCUCCACCUUUCCCCCAAGCUUUGUAUGGCACCAUCAUACAAAGCAAGUCUCAAGUGAGGGAUGCAAACUUCAUAUGGGAUCCGGGCAAGCUAAACCAAGGAUCAAAUUUUUUGAUGGACUUAGUCUUUUUAAAGACUAGCUAGUCCAUAUCUUUUUUGUUUUAUUACUAGUUUUGAUUUUGAUUUUUUAUGUUUUUAAUGGAGCUUUGAUGUCCAAUAGCAGGUACGAAAGCUCACAAGCUCACAAAUGUGGAAAGAAAGGUGAAAUAAGGGAGAAAUAUACCUAAGUCCAAGCUUAAAAGCCCAUUUCGCAACUCAAAAAGUGAGUUGCGAAAUGCACAUUUUGGCAAGAUGCAAAAUGCAACCUCUCGGGAUUGCACUUUCGCAAGGAGUAACCAGUGCGAAAAUUUUCGCAAGUUAUUUUUCACCUUGCGAAAUUGUUUUCAAAGCAAAUAUCAAAAUGCAACCUCUCGGGAUUGGUUUUUAAGGGGAGUAGCCAGUGCGAAAAUUUGGCAAGGUGAAUUUUCACCUUGCGAAAUUUCCAGCACUCCGCCAUGCUCUCUCAGAUCCACCAUCACCUGGGCAUAUCACCUCCUCCACCUCAGGAGCCACAUCCAUGAUUGGAUAUUUCUAUCUCCAUUUUGUAUAUGUUUUUUUGUAGAUGUACAUGUUUUAUAUUCUGAGAUUGUAUGUACCUCAUGCUUCUAUCUUGUACUCAACUCUCUCAGUUUAUAUAAGCAUCAUUUUUUGUAUCUUAUUUCCUCUCUCACGUUUCUUAUGGUUUUUGAAUCAUGUGGAUGCACUCACACGCCUUGAAUACCAUAUCACCAUAAGGUAUAUCAUUCCUUCCUCGUCUUUUUCGAUAGAAACAUUGGGGACAAUGUUCAUCUCGGUUGGUGGGAGAGUUGAGGAAGUAAGUAUUUCCUAUUUUAGUUAGUUAUUUUGUUGAUUUAGUAGUUUUUGCCCUUUUUCAAAAUUUUUUGUUUCAUCCUCUAUGGUUGUUAAAGAUAAUUUCUCAAAAUAAAAUAGGAUAAGUCGAGUUUUAACUUAAUUACUUAAGUCUUAGAGUUUGUUUUAUACUUUCAAAGUUGAUAAUCUAUUGAAGCCCUCUUUGAUUUCGAACUUAUUUCUUCCAUUUCAAGCUUUACACACACCGUGCACAUUAGAUCCCGGAUUUAUGAUGUAAAACUUUCUCACCCUCUAAGCUUAGGAAAAUUUUGACUUGGUUCAUUGCUUAACCUCUUUUUAAUAGUGUUGGGACACCUCAAAAAGACCAAUGAGUCUUAGAAAAAGAAAAAAAGAAAAAAGAAAAAGAAAAAGAAAAAAAAAAUAAGCUUCUAUUCUUUCCUUGAAACCUAAGCAUGAUCCGAAGGGGUGGCGAAAGCCUUUAAAACCCGAUGCCCUAAACCUUGAUUGGUUGGGAGUCAUCGAUCCUCUGCUUGCUACAUAGGUGAAUUGGUUAAGUUUAGUGAGUAAAAAGAAUUGUGAAUAAGAAGGUGCGUUCCUAACCUAUUAAGAGUUGGUUAAUUUUGCCAAUGUCCGAGAAAAGCUUAGGUUGGGGGGAGAGGAUAGUUGUGCAUACUAUAUCCGGAAGCUAAUCUCAUUAACACUUAGCUCAUUAUGGAAGAGUUUGAUUCGGAACCUUGAGAGUAGAGAUUCUUUUGAUACUUAAUUGCAUAAUCUCCACUCUUUGUACUUUUUGUUUAAGUUUUAGCUUUGACAACUCCUAUUGCAUUUUGAAUCUUCGUAUCUUUAGUUCACCAUGUGAGAUGUGUUUUGAUAUCAGUCAUGCCACUCAAUUAUUUUUUGGAGUGAUUUGCAUGAUCCCUUUUAUGUAUAUUAUUAUAGUUUACUUAGUUUUUAUCUCCUCCAUUGCUAAGGGACUAGCAAUGAGUCGGUUGGGGGGUGUGAUUACUACCAAAAAGUGCUAUUUUGUAGACCUAAUUAUAAUGGUUUUUAAGCACCUUUGAGUAGUAAUCAUAUUCAUUUAACCCAAUUAAUUCAUUAAGGUCCUUAGUAAUUAGUUUUAACCUUUUUGUGGCAAAGUUGACAUGUUUUUAUCAGCUUAUGAAUCGAUUCAAGCAUGCCAAUUGAUGGAGGAGCUACUUGGGCGAGUUAAGCAAGGAUUUUGUACGUUUAUAGGCUUGAAUUUCAAGUGGAAACACGAGCACAAGCAAUGGAGAAGAGGAAAACAGAGUGAAGAAAACAGCUGCAGUAUUCCUUUGAACUUUUGGAGCACUUCCCGAAGUCCAUUUUUUGCAUGCUAUAUACCAUUUGAAAGCUUAGGAAGUCAAAAAUCCAAAGCUUCAAACCGUGUAUGAUUUGGAGCUGAAAUGAAGAAGAUAUGGCCUUUGGAAGGCAACUGCAUCAUGUCAAAUGACCAAUUUCGCAAUGUGAAAUUCACAUUGCGAAAAUUUCGCAAGGAGAUUUUCUUCAUGGUGCGAAAUUUUGCCACUUCGCACCAUGAAGAAACACAUUGCGAAAAUUUCGCAAGGAGGAUUUAGGCACAUUGCGAAAUUCCUUUGAAUCCCCUGUUUUGAGACGUUGUUGAUGUUAUUCCACUACCGGUUCUCCAAGAUAUUUUGCUUGAUUUUUAGCUUUGUAAAUACCUAUUUUACCCUUGUAAUCAACCAAUGAAUAGGUUGCUUUUGUAAUAGCUCUUGUAAUUUAGCUUGUUAUUGUCUUUAAAUAGAGGUGAAGAGCCUCAGACAAUCAUCAUCUAAUCUUGUAACCUGUAACUUUAUAAGUUAUAAGAGCACUUUUGUUCAUACGUUUCUUUCUCAUUUUCUUAGUAGCCAAACAUCCUUAGAGGAUGAAAUCCCCAAGGAUGGGAGGCUAAAACCUUUUAGUUUCUUGAAGUAAUGGAUGCCAUGUGAAGCUCCCGUGUCAGGAUGGAGAUUUCCAAGCCAUGAAUGUAAGUAGCUGAGCGUCAUAAAUGUUUUCAUUCAAAGUAAAGCUUUUAAUCCCUCUGACUUGCUUUGAAUGGCCAAUACUUGAUAAGCUUUUGGUCUCAGUGGAUUCUUAUUGUUAGAUCCACUGACGUUCAUUAGUUAUCUCCUACGAGCCAUUGUAUUGCAAGUCGAGGAGAUGACCUAUAUCAUUAAAAGGGCAUUUAUGAGGUUCAGCUACCCUUUUUGUAAGUUUUCAAGGACUAAAACUCAGUUGUUAAACUCAUACCAGUUCGGGAAGUAAGCAUCACCUUAGUUGCUUCCCCAACUCGAGGUGAAAAGUCCCAAAAUCUCCAUUUUUACACAGUGAGUUAAGCAUGGCUAUCCAAAGCUUUGAGAAACUUCUUUUUCCAUCUUUUAACCUAUUUUCAUGUUAGUUUAGUUUACACACCUUCAUCUUUUUAUGUUUUCAUCUUAACCUAAUUUUUAUUAAGAAAAGUUCACUCCAUCCUCCGAACUUCACCAGUUAAAGUAAAAACCCUUCCCAGUGUUCGAUCCUAGAGCCACUAUGCUAUAGUAGCUUUGCUACUUUAGUGUAAGGACCUUAGGUAUAAAUUUUGUUGAUACCCUUACAUGCCAAGCUACCAAGAGUCGGGUUAUCAGUUACCCAAAAGUGUGACAUAUUUUUUUGACGAACUUUGCUCUGUCAUCACAAUCUUCUGACAUUUCCAUGGCAAAUUCUUAUCAACUAAUUUACUCAAUUUUUUUAGAAACUGAUCCUUAUCCAUUCCACUGUGCUGAUUUCCAUUAAAAAUGCUGAACAUAUGUAGAGAAUUGGGUUCAAUGUCAGGUUCACUGAUGCAAUGUUUAUGAACGUGAUGUAUGAGUUGCAUUUCACAACCAGUUUCUUCCUUAACAAAAAUGGAGAUGGUUUUCACAUUACAGACGAAAAGUAAAGCCUCUGAAACAACCUUAGAAAAAGAAGCAAAGAGAGACAUGACAUCUUCAGGUGCAUAGCCUUCUUUCUUUAUUUGGCUUCAAGAAGCAACACUUGCAUUCCUGAGGAGAAAACGAAAGAGUGUGCCAGGAAAGGGAUUCUACAAGUCACAGCCAAAGUGUAGGAAUGGAGAGAACUGAUAUGGAAAUUGUUCCAGAAUCCUUCUCCCAACAUAUCUAAUUCUUAAACCAGGGUGGGAUGGAGAGAUUCCAGGCAAAUUAAAGGCAUGAGGAUCAAACAUAACAAUAUUUUCCCCAGAAACAAAAGUUGGUAUGUCUGUAAAAUGAUAAGCACAAUUAAAUCCCAGCCCAAAUCUUCCAAUAGCAAAUGGCUUCUCUAGCUUGCUUUCUUGAACAAAUCCGCGAGAUUGCAUAAAGAUCUUGUGGACUGAAAAUAGAGUCAUUGAAACAGUACAAAGCAGGGCCUUGCCAAUCUGCCAUUUCAAGAGAGAGGAUGGAAGAAGUCCCAUACUGGGUUUUCCGCGAUCAUCCCAUCUUUAAAUCUUUGAAGCUCUGCUUUCUCUCCCCAAAAAUUCCGGAAUUUAAGAGCCUCAUCUUUAUGCUCAGCAUUUGGACCAGCAUCGACCACUCUAAAAGCUUUCUCUAAAGAGCUGACUAAAAUCCCAAUGAGCAAUGGCCCUCGCUCAAAGAUCGAUAAACUAUUUUCCACAUUGCAUUCUGAAGUGGCAUUUUUCCAGCUAACACGGAUGAACUUUGCUCUAAGAGAACCAACAUUUCAUCAUAAAACCCAAUUGAUCCAAAAUAGGAAACUAAGGAAUUAAUCAAAUCUUCUUUCUGGACAUUUCUUCGAACACACCAUAAGCACCUCAAAUAGAUUCAAAUACCGUACAGGAAGAGGGAUAGAGAACAAAUAAAAAAAGAAAAGAUAUAAAACCCGAAGACGAAGAAAGCGGAAGACAUUGAUCAAUAAACAUAAAUAGCUCCACUUCAAAUGUUAAUCCGUGGGCUGGGGACAGAGGAAACAAUGCAGUAUGGGAUUUUUAACAAAAAAAAACAUGAUCAAAUUCAAGCAUGGAGUCAUGAAUUUCAGAAGACAACAAUGACACAUGAGAGAAUCAGAAUCUAAAACAGGGCAAAGAAGUGAGUAACCAAUCUCAAGAAAUCAAUUUGUGGCCCUUUCCGUCCACACCAAUCAUCAGUAUAUUAAAUGUUCAGAAACAAACACACGGAGAAAUCAAGUAUGGGUAAGAAUUCCAAGAGUGGCGAGAAUCAUACCUGGGCAGCCUUGGUUGCAAUUGCUCUCUUCUCCAAUUCCUUUGUGCUUCUCCUCAAGACGAUCCCUCAAAUCCCCUCUCUCUUUUUCCUCUCUCACAUAUAUAUCAGCCUCCCUCAAAGAACCCCCCAAAUCUGCUGGAGGAAAAUCCACUUUCCUUUCAUAUUUUCUUCCCUUUUGUAACCGAUUCCCUCAUGGAAAUAAUAUACGUGCUAUCCUUCUAAAAACACAAUCUCCUCUUUUCAAAAUUCUGUUGAUUUUCCUUCCAAAUAAAUGGCGGCCGUUUUCUCAUGGCCAAAAAAUAAAUAAAUAAAUAAAUAAAGAUACAAAUAGAAAUAAGAAUAAAAUAAAGACAAAAUAGAAUAAAGAUUAAAAUCAAUAAACAUCAUGAAAUUGAAAAUCAAAAGAAAUUUAAAUCACACAUCUAAAAAAUAAAAUAAAUAAACAAAAAAUAAAAAAUAAAAAUAAAAAUAAAAAUAUUUAAAAACAAAAAAUAAAAUAAAAAAAAUCAACCACAUGCAAGCCAUACAAGCUAUGUAACCACCAAAAGAAUAUGAGUCAUGAAACCAUGCAAAAACACGAGCCAUGCAACCAUGCGAACCAUGCAAAAACAUCUAAAGGUGACCUAGGGUGUGUCCUAAUGGGCCAAGUGUAUCUAAAAGCUAUCCUAAAAAAAACAAGAAAAGCCUAAGUUUAAGUUAGGGCUGCCAAGGGUCACAAUAAGGGAUCAAAUAAUUCCUCAACCAAAAUCUCCGAGGUGACUCAGAAAAAGGUAAGUGGUACGAGUAGUAAUGGGCCACCAAGGAACUACCGUGGAGCAUUGGAAGUAAAUUUAAAGACAUGUGCUAAAGGGACAAAAUUGAGGGUCUACAGAAAGCAACAUGUGAAGCUAAAAAUGAUAUCAGGAGGAUGAUCUUGUGGCUUUGAUCAAUGUAAUAUUUGGUCCAACAUCUCAUAAAACCAAGAGAAUCCAUGGCAACAUAAAAAAGAAGGUCGUGACCAUACUAAUUGACUUAGGAAGCACCCAUAACUUCCUUGAUCUCGUAGAGGCCAAACGAAACAAGAUGCUCAAUACAAACUACCAACCCCAUGAAGGUGGCAAUAACAGAUAGAACUAGAAUUACUAGUGAUGCAAUUUGUAGGCAAUGUUAGGAUAGAACCCUUAAAAGCAUGACAUAAUGUAAUAAAUUUGGAAUUCAUUAUUUAUUUAAUGAUAUUCCAAUUUCACUUUUAUCUAUCCUUAUUCCAUGUAUUAUACUUUAUGAACUUUUUUGUCUACAUCUUUUGCAUUGUACGUGACUUAGGUGCCUUAGGAGUUGCACAGAAGAUCUAAGUCAUGAGUUCCUUGCAAAUAGAUGACUUGUUCACAACCAAUUCAUGGGUGUAGGCAAUCCAUUAGAGGUUUUAGUGCACCACUUCCUAAUUAGAGGAAUAACUGGUCUUGGCUAUUGGGAUGAGUUUCCCAUGAUGAGUGUACUAAUAUGUAUGGAUGCACAUUAGACAGGACCGAUGGUGAGUUAUGACUUAAGGCUAUCAAGUAGUAAUGACUUCACCAAGUUGUUUCAUUAUGUUGUCUCUCAACCUUGAGAGAAUAUUGCAUUUGUGUUGAAGUUAGCAGUGUCUUUGAUCCACGGGUGAAAUCGUAAGCUAAUCAUAUACUCUUUAUGGAUUGGAUCACUACUGAUGGAUGCCAAUAGCAAUAAGUAUUCUAAAUAGAGACACCAUGAUAUCUCUUAGGAAUAAGACAGUGUGUCUCCUCGGGUGAUCCUAAGGAGGUGUGUUCAUGGAAACUAUGGUCAUAAUAGUUCCUUAGGUGGAACUUGACAUAGGCUCUUUGAAAGCUAAGAUAUGUCAAUUGAACACACAAUAGGAGAAUCUAUAACUCAAGGAUGGUAGAGAUAGUCUUAAAAGGCUUAUAGCUUUCACUUUGUUAGACUACGAACACCAAUUCAUGUGGAGACUAAACACAAUGGAUAACAGGUCAUGGACUUGAGCACUUGGUGUCUUAUUAUUAUUUACAUAGGAUAUUUGAGUUCAGUUGAUUCUCUAUAGUGGGAUAUUAAAUCAACUUUAGAAUUGGAUUAUGAGAAAACCAGUAUUUCUAUGGGUCUUAGUGGUCCCUGUUUUGAGCUCAUAUACCUUGUUGGCACAGAUUAUGAGGGUCAGAUUGGCUUUAGGUUUAGUUUUGUACAUAAGGGUGUUUUGGUAAUCACACAAGGUUGCAUAGAGGUAAGUGAGCAAGGUCUUUGGAUUGGGUUAAUUGAUUAAUUAGUAGGCUCUGUUAGGUUAACUAAUCAAUUAGGACCCAUUUUGGGAUAGAUUAAGUGACCCAAGCCCUUAGUGAACUCAAGUCACUUAAGCUUAGUAGGAAACCAUGUAAAUACCCCCUUAGGGGUUAGGGUUCCCAUUGCUUUUUCUAGAGAUCCAUCUUCCAUCUCCAGAGAGAAAGAGAGAGAUUUAUAGCAUGUACUCUUCCUUCUAUCCCCACCAGAAGUGUGUCAAGAUCAAGUUUCGAGUCAUCGGGUGGAAGACUUCAGGUUUAUGAGACUUCUACGAUUUCAUUCUUCAUCUUCACCACAUAGAUUUGAUUUAGAAACGUCUGAAUCUAAGGUAUGGAUUUUGUUUACACUUUAUGAAUCCCUUUAAAGUUUAAAAAUGUUAUUUUUCCAUUGUGCAAAGGAUUUAGAAAAAGCCUAGGAUAGUUAUGCAUGUUCAUAACUUGAUUCGAUCUUAGGAAAGGAAGAGAUCCUAGUUUUUCCCAUUAGGCAAUUGACAUGGAACAUGCAAGGGAAUAAAUUUUAGAUAGAUUUGAGGCUCAUCCUUUUGAGUAGGUGCGAUAUGGUAUUGGGAAUUCAAUGGCCAGCUGAAUUGGGACUCAUAUUAUGGGAUUUCAAGAAUUUAAAAAUUGAAUUUAUUGUUGAUGGAAGGAAAUUCGUGUUAAGAGGUAAAACUAUAGGUCCUAAGAAGUUAGUUUCAACAAAUCAAAUUCAAAAUUAUUUAAGGCAUAUGUCUCAAGCAUCUACAAUUCAAAAUUUCACUAUACAAGGGAAUGAGGAAAAUAAAGUUGAAAAUGAACAACAUGGCAACUGUCCAACUCAUUUCCAAACAACGUAACAUAGAAAGAUGCUUACUUUCAACAAAAGUUUCCAUAGUUUCAACCUUGAGGACAAGACUUCUUUUGAUGGGGGAGAGUAUGUUACAACCCUGAAUAAAGGAUCCCUAAUAUCCCUUAAUCUUUAGUUUCUAUUUCUGCUUAGUUUCUACUUCUAUUUAGUUUCUAUUUAAAUUGGGGAAUAAAGGAUCCCUAAGAUCCCUCAAUCUUUAGUUUCUAUUUCUAUUUAGUUUCCUAUAUAAAAUAAGGAAAGUGUAAUGGAGAAAAACAUGAAAAAAUAAUCUCAAUAAGAAAAAGUUGUUCUCUCAAUUUUGCAUAUUUUCCUCAUAUCAUAAAAUUUUACAUGUAGAUUUUCUCCUUUUGAAGCUCUAUAUGAUACAAAAUCAAUUCUCUUUUACUCCAAUUCCAAGUAUGUAUUUACUGAAAUGGGUAUGCUUUGACUCUCAAUGAACACAUUUUCUCAAUUUUUCUUCAUACCUGAGUGGAAAUAACAUAAGGCAGUUAAACUUGCUUUGAGAUUAAUUGUGGUUUUGACAAGCAUUUCAUCUAUAAUUCAUUUAUACACAACUAGGUACAGUACAAGACUUCCUAAUUAAACAAAGUUUCUGGCAUUAAUGAAUUGAAAAAAAUAUGGGUAAAACAAGUUUCUACUCACCAUCCCAAACAUUCCUUUAGAUGUAUUGUAUGGUAGAGGAUUAUUCUUUAUUAUUAUUAUUAGUACUAUUCUUUUUUUCCCUUUUUAAUGGUUUGUAGUAGAUUCAAAUGGCAUUAUAGAAGUAGAAUUUCCUAAUUUAAUUUGUUGGACAAAUUUGCUUUGGUUUUGCAAUAUUUUGUGUUUUGAAUACAUAGAAAUUGAAAUAUAAUAAGAUAACAAUUAUAAUGUGUUUUUAAGGGGAUUUUUUUUUAUCUUCUAUAAGUAAAUAAAAAGAAAGAAAAAAGAAAAAAAAACCAACACCAACAACAAUAAUAAUAUAGACAUUUGCAAUUUUUUUUAAAGUGUCUCUAUUAGAACAUUGAGUUUUAUUUAUAUGUUGGUAAUUUUGUUCCAAAUUAUUUUUUGCCUUAGAAAUCUUUUUAGAUGGUGGCUUACUCUCCAUUGAAGAUCAUGGAUUGCUACUUGUCCAACUGGAAAGUCAUAGGAACGUUUAAAAGGUUUGACUUGUGGCAAAUUAGGGUUCUAAAGGGUAUAAAUAGGAGUGUUAUUCUUUUUUUGGAAUAAAAUUGAUUUUUAUUUAACUUUGUAAAAAAUGCAGGAUUGCUCGAGCGGGAAAUAGCACUCAAGCCCUGGGACCGCUCGAGCGCUUGACUAGUGCUCGAAUGCCCAAGGUGCUCAAGCAAUGGUUAAGUGUGCUUGGCCUCGAGCUCUCAAGUGUUCAUGCCAAUUAUGCCAAAGAUUAGCAUAAUAUUUUCGAAGAUUUCAUGCAGUUGUAAGUAUUGGAGAUUUCAAUAAGGCUAAAGAGUAUUCAGUGGAGAAAUUAGAGAUUGUUGUAUCAUAUACGUGGAUGAAGUUGUAGGUAUUGGAGGGUAAGCCUUUAGGAUAAAACGACCAGGUAAAUUUGUAACUUGAUCAUGUAUAGUGGAUUUUGAUUAGUAGUCUUAGACCUUGUGGUUUUUUUUAUCUCCACAAUAAUGUGGGGAUUUUUCAUGUAAAAAUCAUUGUGUCCAUUGCUAUAUCUUGUGAUUAUCACGAUUAUUUAGAUUCUGUUUAUCUCUAAUAUUAUCUCACAUUGUAAAAAUUGGGUAUAACAUAUAAUCUUUAUUUUAGAAUUCUUUUAAUUACACCCAUUCACCUCCCUUCUCUCUUUGGGUGUUACCCUACUAGACUUGGCUUUUUCAGUCUCAAAUUCUACACUAGCCUUUUUUUUUACUUAAGUUAUAAAUGGAAAAAGUUAUAAACCCAAGAUAACUUGUUAAAAAAGUGAGAAAUAAUAAAGGACUCGUGUUAGAGUAUAAAUAACUAAUUUGUUCUAGGCUUAAUAUAAAUCCAAUGUUAAAUAUGAAUACUUAAUUAUUUAUUAUAUUUUGAAAAUAAAGUAAGUAUUUUUUAUAUAAAAAAUAAAACAACUUUUCUAGAACAACACAAGGCACUAAUGCAUAUAGUUGGUAACAAGUUGGAGAAAGAAAAUAAUGUGGAGAAAUAAAACGUGUAGAAAGAAAACAACUUGGAGAGAAAGAAAAUGACUAACAGAAAAGGAAAUAGAGAAAUUAUAGAAUGUAAGAUAAUUACACUUAUUUUCAUAAAAAUAAUAUAUUUUCGAAAAAUAGAAAAUUUCAUUCAUAUUCUCUUUUUCACUUAUUUUAAAAAUUAAAAUUAAAAUUAAUAUUUAUCAAAUGAAAAUAUUAAUAAUUAUAAAAUUAAUAUUUAUCAAAUACAUAAGAUUAAGAUUUAGAUAUAAACUUUUUAUAAUCUAAACUAUUAUAUAUUUUCAUUUUAAAUGAGAAAGGUUGAUGUGAUAUUAUAAAAUUUGUACACAUAAUUUAAGUUAUCUCUAUUCAUAUAGAAUUAUAUAUAGGUAUAGAUUCAUUUCAAAAUUCAAAUAAUUAUUUGAAUUUUACAUUUAAAUUUUAUUUUUAAAUUUAAGACUUAAUUAUUUUGUAAUUAGAGUACUUGUCAUAAAAUUGAAGCUUAUAUAUUUAUAAAUGCCUCCACUUCCAUACCUGUCAUAAAAUUGGAGCCUACUUUUUUUUAUUUUCUUUUGUGUGUUUAUAAAUGUCUCCAAUUCCAUAUCUAGCUGUGAUAUAUUUUUAUAGAUGAUUGUGAUUGAAGUAUAAUUUCUUUUGAUUUUAAUUUUAUAAGAAUUAAAAAUCUUAUCUAAAUUUGAUUAUUAUUUUAGUUUUCUAAAAGUUCAGAGUAUUACAAAGAAACUGUUGGGUAGAAAGAUGUUUCCCUCCAUAUAUACAUAUCUAAUUAAAAAAAAAAACACACAAAGAAAGACAACAAUAGAUGAUCAAAAUUAUUAUUCAUAUGUUAUGUCAGUGCAAAAUAUGAAAAAGAAGACAGAAGCGUGCGUCUUCACUGUGACUGAGGAUCAAAAUCUCUUUGAGAUUGAUAUAAAUUAUUUAUAGCUUCAUUGUUUGUGGAGAGUUGAUUCAGUAGUGUCUUCCAUUUGAAGACAUACAGAAAUAGUUAGAAUUAUCUAUUCAUUUCAAGAGAUAACUUGCAUCUAUGACCCUUAUACUCCCAUGAACUUUGAUCCGAUUAACACAGUGGGCAUUUAUUAUUUAUAAAAUAUGGAUGAAAAGAGAAUUAAAAAAAAAUUAAUGGGAAGUGUAUUUUGGAAAAAAAAUAAUUCUCAUUUGAUACAUUGGAAAAGUAUCUACCUCAAAAAUGUCAUUAUAUGUGUACAUGGGUCAUCAUCCAUAGUAACCCAAUUCACAUGAGGACGGUACAUCAUUCAACCAAUAAAGGUACUUUAAGCUCAAAACAGUGGUACAGUAUAAUCAAAACAAUAUUACUUUAAUAUCAAAAUACAUGCAAGGACAUUUUUAAGGUAAUGUGAGGUAAAUACUACUAUAAUACAUUAAAUAAGAAUUAUUUUCCCAAAAAUGUGCUUCCCAUGAAAAUGACUUAUGUGGUUUCUUUUAUUUAUAUUUUAUAAAUAGUGCAUGUUUACAUAAUUCCCUCAUUAAUUAAUAUAAUCAUCUAUACCUGAUAAUUAAGGAAAUAAAAAAUAUUUACAUACUAAGCAAGGAUAAUGGAAAUUAAAGAGUAUGUCAAAAAGAGAAAAAAUAAUAUUAAAGAUAAAUUAAAACUCUAAAAUACAAGCUUCAUUUACGCAUAUAGGCCAAUAUCUUAGGAGGUAUUUGAUUAAAUAAUAAUAAUAAUAAUGAUUAAAAAAUGGAAAAAAUUAUGGAUCCCAUUUUUUAAGUGUUUUCAAUAACAUAAUUAUAAACCUCUUAAAAUUUAAAAUCAUUUAUUUAAACCAUUUUAUUCAUUUAGCAACAAGGACUUAAUUAAUCACUAAGAUCGAACACAAUGAUUUAUAAUUUUUUCUUCCAUUACCAUCUUUUUUUUUUUUUUUGUUAAUAAAAUGAAGAUUUCUAUAGAUGAAUUUUUUAUAAUAAAACGUAACUUCUUUUAAAUUAAAACCAUUUAUUAUUAAAAAAAAUUAUUUUAAUCCAUCUAUGUUCUUUUAACCAAUUCUUUUAGAAUUUUUAUAAAUUUUUUUUUCAUAUUUAAAGAUAAAAAAAUGAUUAUGAAAUAAUUUUAUUCAUUAUAAAAUUUAUCUUUCUUUUCUAAAUCAGAAUUUUUGUCAUGUCCAUUCAUAUAAUAAAAUUUAAAUUAUGAAUAAAAAAACCUAUUUUAAUUUUUAGCGUCAUGGAAUCUCUCCAUGCACACUCAUGCAGCCAACCAUCAGUUCCCAUGGCAGCCACGUGUCUUCCAACAAGUAUAUUCCCUUUCUUUGGCUCUCCACAUUUGUGUUCUAUUUUUAUUUAUUUAUUUUAUCUUGAUUAGUAGUUCACAGAACAAGCAUGAGAAGGAUAUGAGUAGAUAUGCCAUGGCUAUGAUCACUUCUAACACUAAACCCUCUUAAACCAAGUGAGGUGUGAAUGCAGUAUGCAAGUCUAAAUAAUGGUGAAAGAAUAAAAACAAAGGAGAAUGCAUGUAAGAUGUAUAUAUAACUAUAAAUAAGGAUUCAAAAUGAGGGGAAAAAUCAUCAAGAAGGGUGAACCAUGGGUGAUAAGCCACUUUAAGGUUCAUCCUUUGGAUAAAUAUUAAAAGUUAAAGAGUAUAAAAUGUCUACGUAUGUUGUCAAUUAUUUUUUUUUCACUUUUAAGUUAAAUAUAUUUUUAUUGUUAUAGAUGAAGUAAUGAAUGCCACCACAUUUAUUAUAUUAAAUGUUCAUUAAAAGCCUAUAAAAUUGUUUCCUAUCCCCUGUAAAAUGCAUCCCAAGCAAAGAAAUAAAUUUUCUUUCUCUCUUAUUCUUUAUUUAUUUUUAUUUAUUAUAUUGUUCAUUCUUUCAACUCUCUUAAUUAUCUUUUAUGAUUCCUUCCUCUCCAUUAUAUAUUAUUAUCAAAAUAAUAUAUAGUUGUUCUCUACUUUUACUUGCGUUGCAUUUCCUCCUUUUACAACAUGUUAUAAGCAUGAAUUGCCCUGAAGGUAAUUCUCAUAUCUUAAACUUGAAGUUAUUUAUAUAGAUUAAAAUUUUACAUAUUUAUAUUGCUAUUGUUAAAUUCAUUUAAUUUGUGUUAUAUAUUAUUAAAACCUAUAAGCAAAUUAUUUGAUUUUGAUUAUAAUCAAAAGUUAUACCAAUGCUAUUAAUUUAUAACUAAUUCUAGUAAUAUUGUUUUGUCAUAUAUCUGAAGUUAUUUAACAAUGUCAAAUCUCACAAAACUCGAAUUUGUGGUACUUGACAUUUCGGGAAAGAACUAUAUAUCUUGGAUCCUUAAUGCUGAAAUACAUCUUGAUGCAAUGAAUCUUGAAGCUACGAUUAAAGAAGGAAAUCAAGCAUCCUUGUAGGAUCACGCAAAAGCGUUGAUUUUCCUUCGCCAUCAUCUCUAUAAAGGUUUUAAAAAUGAGUAUCUUAUAGUAAAGGAUGCUUUUACUCUAUGGAGUAAUUUGAAGGAAAUGUAUGACCGCCAGAAAAUUGUGAUUAUCCCAAAAGCUUGAUAUGAUUGGAUGCACUUAAGGUUGUAGGAUUUUAAAACUAUUAGUGAAUAUAAUUUGCACUUUCAAAUUUAGCUCUCAAUUAAAGCUACGUGGAGAAAAAAAUCACAGAAGAAGACAUGUUAGAAAAAAUGUUGCUACAUUUCAUGCCUCGAAUGUGCUCUUACAACAGUAAUACCAAGAGCGUAGAUUUACAAAAUACUUUGAAUUAAUACACUACAAGGAAAAAUAUAUAUGGUGACAUUUAUAAUGAGUCACCCUAAACAUAGGGUGUUGCUACAACAUAGCGUCACCUUAUCCACUGACACCAUAGAAGGUACCAAUUGGUGACGUAUUUGGAAGUGACACCAAAGCAGAUAAAUGGUGACGCAUUCAAAAGCGACACCAUAUAUUUUUAGUGAUGCUUAAUUUGAUAUAGAGUUGUGUGAGAUAUAUAAGGUGUCAUAUUAAAUGCAUCAUCUUUAAGUUAUGAUGUCACGUUAAAUGCAUCACCUUUGAGUUAUGGUGUCACAUCAUUGUAAAUGAUUAUAGAAGAUAUGAUUGUUUUUUGUUGAUUAGCCUAUAGAAUUUUGUAAUGGUUAUUAAUAAAUAAGAUCAAAGUGUGUAAAUUUUGUCCAUAAAUAUAAUAAUCAUAUUACAUUUAGCUUAUAUUUUCAUAAUGCUUAUGGAUUAACUUGUAAUACAUUACAUCAUCCACCAAUAUUUGUAUAUCAAAUGUUCACAAAACAAUAGUACAUCAAACACAUCAAACCCACCAAAACUAAAAAAGAAAAGUGAAUACACAUUAAAACAUGAUUUAGAAAUGUUAAGCAUCCCAACAUUCAUGUAUACCUACAUUUCAUAUGCAUAAAAAUAGCUAACUAUAAAAUGACAUGAGUUGCAUCAAAAAACCCAAAAUUCUCAAUUCCAAAUAAAGUAACAUUUAUGUCAUAUAAUGUAUGACAUAAGAAUCACAUCUAAAAACCCAAAUCUUGUCACCUCUUUCUCUUUUCUUUUUAUUCUUCAUAUUGUCCUCCUAAGAGUGUAUAUCUGCAUUUUAUAGUUUAAUGAGUUUUAGAGUUCUUAUUGAAAAUAAAAAUGUGAUGUUAUAAAAAAUAAACAAAUCUAAGCACUAAUGUUUUCUUUUUUCUUUUUCCUAUUUUGAUAUAAAAAUAGUUCAUAAAGAAUAAUUAAUGCUAUAUAAUACCAAUGGAAAAUUUAUAUAACAAAUAAGGGACUCACCAUGCAUGAUCACGAUACAUGAACAUGAUUCAUGAUUAGUUAUAACACAAAAGUAAUACAUUCUCCUUUAAUUUCAUCAAAUUCUACUUGAGAAUGUGUUUUUUGUCAUCAAACUGAAAUCAAAUAAGAAUAACAUUAAUAUCACAAUAAUUGGAAGUAUGAAACCAUGUACAAUUCAUUAAAUGAGUAAAACCUUUAAUGCAAUAACUGUAGAAUCAACAAUUAUUUCUUUAAUGAAUCUCAUAACAAAGUAAUCACAUUUGAACUCAAAUAAAAACAAUUCAAUAAAUAUAAAAUAAAUCAAAAUUACAAAAUAAAAAUAUAAAUCUAAAAUUUUAGAAAAUACUAAUCUUCCACUUAAAAUCUACACUUUUUUAAAUUUAUUUUUUAUAAUUCAUUAUGCUUUUAAAAACCAUUUUUUACAUCUAAUUCUUUUUAUAUAUUUUUUAUUUCUUGGAAGGAUUUUCUUAAUUUCAAUAUUUUUUUAAUGUUUGUUUUGUGAAAUAACAUUGUCCAUUAAAUUUCAUCUCAAUUAUAUAAAAUAAAAUUUUAGUAACAAAAUAUAAAUUUUUUUUCAACUAUUAAUAUGAUAAAUAGGACAUGAUAUUAUAACAAGAAUGAAAAUUGUGUAUAUAAGAUAAAAAAAAAAAAAAAAAAAACCUAAUUCAUUAUUAAGAAAUGCUAAGAGAAAAAUUAGUAUGAGAAAGAAUUAAAGAACCUUUCAUAAAAAUUAUUGAUUUUUCAAUGCAUAAGUCCAAUUGAUAUUUUUUUUUUCUAAGUAAAAUAAUUAAUAAAAAAUUUGUAUAAGAAAAAAAUAUUCAAAUAAAAAUAAUAAUAAAAUAAAAACACCAAAGGAAAAAAUAUUCAAUAUUUUAAAUUUUUGACUUUUAAUAUUCUUUAGAUCAAUAAAUUGUCAAACAUCUUUUUCUGAAAAAAAAAAUGAAGAAAAUGAAGAGUUUUAUGGAAGGAAUUGGAAAAUUUUUUAUAAUUAAAGGAUUUUAUAGAAAUUUCGUAACCUUGAAAGGAAAAUUUCAUCACCAAUCUCAAAUUACUCCAAAGUUUGGUCAAUGCAUAUAAAGACAAUAAGAAAAUAAGGCAAAAAUAAAACAUAUUUUUAGAAUCCUUUUGCAGGAGAUGACAAUAUUGAGAAUAAUUUUCUCAAAAAUUAUUUUCCAAAUAUCACCAACCCAUUUCCUCAUCACAACAUACUAUAAUAUUCUUAGAAAAUAAACAAAUAGUUCAAUUAAAGGAAAUUUCAUAGAAAAUCAAAAGAAAAUUAUCAAACAUCUUCUUUAAAAAAAAAAGGAAGAGUUUUAUGGAAGGAAAUGAAAAAAUUAUGUAAUAAAAGGAUUUUAUAGAAAUUUUCUAACCUUGAAAGGAAAAUUUCAUCAUCAAUCUCAAAUUACUCUAAAUUUUGGUCAAUGAAUAUAAAAACAAUAAGAAAAGAAAGUAAAAACAAAAAACAAAAAACACAUUUUAAGAAUAUAAAAAAUAUGAAUAGAACAAGAUGAGAUAUUAACCAUAAUACCAUGUAAAAGAAUAGAAAAAAAAAACAAAAUAUAAGAUUUGAUCAUUUUUAUAAUUAUAAAAAUUUUCAUUCCUAUUUAAAGUUUUAAAAAACAAUUCAUUUACAUUGAUAAAUAAAAAAAAUUAAUUUCUCAUUGUUAAUUCCAACAUUCCAAACUGACUCUUAUAUGAUAUGGAAACUAUUUCAUUUUUCCUUUUGUGAGAGAUGACAAUAUUGAGAAUAAUUUUCUAAAAAAUUAUUUUUCAAAUAUCACCAAUCAAUAUCCUCAUCACAAUAUUCUAUAAUAUUCCUUGAAAACAAAUAGGAAGUCCCAUCAAAGGAAAUUUCCUGCAAGAUCAAAAGAAAAUUUCAUGUUGUAAAAUGUUUAUCUCUCAUUUUGAGUAUAAAAUAUAUUAAAAAAUUAUUCAUUUUUCUUAUUUUCAUUCAUUUUGGGAUUUAUGGGUUUAACAAUGAAACAUAAGAUAUGGUGGAAUGUUAAACCUAAUUUUUACUUUCCUACAACUCAAUAAAAAAACAUUAUUUACAUAAUCCAUAUUACAGAUAUACCAAAUCAAUGAAUAUAAAUCAAUUGUACUAAUAAAGAUUUUGAUAUUAAUAAAAAAUAUUAAAAUGAUAGAUCUAAGAGAUUUUGGGUGACCUGAGAGUCCAUGAAGCAAAGAAGAGCAGUUGUGUGUUAACUAUGAGUGUGAGAAGAGGUAGAAGAAAAUUUUGGCUAGGGUUAUGGAUGAGAUUUUUUUUGGAUUGUGGGUAUAUGGAAACAAUGACCUUUUUAUAUACUAUCAUUAUUCUCAAAGUGGGCCCAUUAAGUUAUAAUAUUUUUAACAAAUUAUUUUAUAUGGUGUCACUUUUCAAACAUUGACACUAUAAACCUAAAAUUAAUAUCAUCGAUCCUAAUUGAAUGUUUUUAUAUGAUGUGUCACCUUUGUAAAUUUUAAGUCAUAUGGUGUCAUUAUUUUAAAAGUGACACCAUAAAUAGUGGCACCAUAAAUUAUUUUUGUAGUAGUGAUAUCAUGUCUUCUUGUUGUUGAACAAAAUAAUGAGCUUUUGAUGAGAAAUCACUAGUCUCAUCCAAUUGGAUCUGAACCAUUCCCUGAAGUGAAUGCAAUAUCAUCCCAAACUCAUGGACAUGGGCAAGGACAAGGAAAUGGUUGUGGUCAUGGAAGGAAUCCCCGAUAUAAUGGUUAUUAUGGUAAUAAUUCCUCAAAUUCUCAUAAAAUGAAAGCUUCAUUGCACCACCAAAAGUGGAAUAAUACUGAGGCAAAACAAGAAAAUGGGAAGUGUUUACAAGAUAAACCUCCAAAGAACGAUGAGAAUAAUUGUUAUAAAUGUGGUAUGAAGGGUCAUUGGUCAUGUACCUAUCGUACACUCAAACAUUUGGUCAACCUUUACCAAGCAUCAAUAAAAGCAAAAGGAAAAGAGAUAGAGAUGAACUUUACCAAUGGUGAUGGAUUGGACCUAACCUACUAUGACAUUGAUUUCUUUGGAAGUCCUAGUGAAAAAAUAGACCAUUUAAUAAAUGAUGAGAAUGCUAACAUUGAUUGGUGUUACUUUAUAUAUCAAAUAAUAUAUUAUUAUGUCUUAUAUUUAUAUCUGAUUAUUACAUUUUCUUUUAUAUUAUUAUUUAUAUUAUGCCUUGUUUUUUUUAAUAUUAGUUGUAUCUAAAAUCCACGUGUUAUUUGGUCUCAAGAUGAAUGAGGAUGAUGUAUGUUUCGCAAAUUGUUAAACCACACACACAAUUCUUCGAGAUAAAAGAUAUUUCAUUGAAUUGACAUUGAUAAAAGCUAAUGUAAGUACCAUAUUUGGUACUACAAGCUUAGUUGAAGGCUCUGGAAGAUGACACAUAAUGCUACCAAAUAGAACUAGAUUUCAUAUAAAUGAUGCUUUAUAUUCUAGCAAAUCCAGAAGAAAUUCGCUCAGUUUUAAAGAUAUCCACAAAAAUGUACAUCAUAUUGAAACUAUGAAUGAAGAUAAUGUAAUUAUCUUUACAUUACUUCCAUUAUAUUUGGCCAGAAGCUUAUAAUAGAAAAACUCUCGACUUUCUCCUCUAGGUUGUAUCAUACAACUAUAAAGCCUAUUGAAUCAUAUUUUGUCGUGAACCAGAAGUUCAACGACCCAAAAGUUUUUGUCCUUUGGCAUGUGAGACUAGGUCACCUAGGGUUUUCAAUGAUGCGUCAAAUAAUCGAACACUCACAUGGGCAUCCAUUAAAGAACCAAAAAAGUCUUUUGCAUAAUGAAUACUCAUGUGCUACUUGCUCACAAGGUAAAUUGAUAGUCAAACCAUUUUUAACUAAAGUCAUAUCUGAGUCACUAGUCUUUUUAAAAAGAAUACAUGGGAACAUAUGUGAGCCUACCCAUCCACCAUGUGGACCAAUUUGUUAUUUUAUGAUCUUAAUAGAUACUUCUACUAGGUGGUCACAUGUUUGUCUCCUUUUUACACGUAAUGUUGCCUUUGCCGACUCCUUUCACAAAUGAUCAAAUUAUGAGCACAAUUCCAAGGUUAUCCAAUUAAGAUAAUACAUCUUGAUAAUGUCGGCGAAUUUACUUCUCAAACAUUCAUUGACUACUGUCUAUUGGUAGGAAUAAAUAUUGAGCAUCCUAUUGCUCAUACUCAUACCCAAAAUGGUCUAGCAGAAUCCUUCAUCAAAUGUCUCUAAUUAAGAGCUCGACCAUUACUAAUGAAAACCAAAUUAUCUACUUCUACUCGGGGACAUGUUAUUAUGCAUGCUGCAACUUUAGAUUGUAUUCGACCUACAACUUACCAUGAAUACUUCCCUCCACAACUCAUACUUGGAAAAUAACCAAAUAUCUCUCACUUAUGAAUAUUUGGUUGUGCAAUAUAUGUACCAAUUGCACCUACGCAAUGCACUAAAAUGGGUUCCCAAUGAAGACUUGGGAUUUAUUUAGGUUUUAAUUCUCCAUCUAUCAUAAGAUAUUGUUAGAAAAAUUAAGCUAAUCCAACCUAAGGUAAUCAUCCUAGAAAGAGGAGGAGAGGAUGAAUAGAGUGAUGAUUUUUUUUUUAAAUUUAAAUUAUAUGAAUACGAGAGACAAUUAUAUGCAAAUAUAUAAUAAAACAAUAUAAAGAUAGAUGCAUAUAAGGAUCCCAUCUUGAUCCUUAUACAAAUGAAUAUGAACUAGAAGUUCAAAUGAUCAUUUAUUUGCAAAAUCUUGCAAACUAAUUACCAGAUGCAUUCAUUGAUAUAAAGAAAGUGACAAAAUCACAUAGCUCGGCUACAAAUACUCCAACACGGAUUGAUGUCCCUGUAGGACAGUUAAAAAAUGAACCUAAGAUAUGCCUAAAGUGUGGUAGACUUGUUGGCUCAAAUGAUGUAACUCCUUGGAAGAGGAGAACAUAAGAAAAACUUGGCACUUUAGAAGAGGUCAUUAAAAUGACUGAUUAGUCUAAAAUUGAUAAAUCUAUAGCCCCAAAAGAGGCACAAAUAAUGCAAAAAGCCCAUGAAGAGGCACAUAUUAAACAAGAAGCCCUUGAAGAGGCACAUAUUGAACAAGAAACCCUUGAAAAGGCACAUGUACCUGAAAAUUGUGAAAUCUUAGUAAGUUAUGUACACAUGGGAAAAAAAUGGGAUCCAAAUAAUAUUGUUAUUAACAAUAUUUUUGCUUUUCAAGUGGCCCAUGAUAUCAUAAGAAAUUAUGAAGAUCUUGAACCACGAAAUAUGGAAGAAUGCCAACAUAGAAAUGAUUGGCCAAAAUGGAAAGAAGCUAUGCAAGCAAAGUUAAACUUAUUAACAAAACGAGAAGUUUUUGGACCUGUACUCCAAACACUUGAAGAUGCAAAGUUUGUUGGGUAAAAAGGGGUAUUUUUACCAAGAAACAUACUCUCCCGACAUGGACAUAAUCAUAUUUUGUUUCUUAAUUAGUUUGGUAGUCUCAAAAGGAUUAGAUAUGAUCCUCAUGGAUUUUAUUACAACAUAUUUAUAUAGAUCCAUAGAUAAUGAUAUAUACAUGAAAAUCCCUGAAGGAUUUAAACUGCCUCAAACAAAUAAUGCAAAGACUUGUAACAUGUACUCAAUCAAGUUAUAACGAUCCUUGUAUGGAUUAAAGUAAGUGGGACGCAUGUGGUAGAAUCGCCUUAGCAAAUACUUACUAAAGGAAGGGUAUGUGAAUAACCCUAUAUGUCCAUGCAUCUUCAUUAAGAAAUCAGAAACCAGAUUUGCAAUUAUUGUAGUGUAUGUUGAUGACUUAAAUCUCGUUGAAACUCCUGAAGAGCUCAUAAGAACAAAAAAUUACUUAAAAAAGGAAUUUGAGACGAAGAAUCUUGGAAAAACAAAAAUUUUUAUUGGUUUGCAAAUCGAGCAUUUUCCAAAUGGAGUUUUAUUCCAUCAAUCAACGUACAUUAAGAAAAUUUUGAAGUGUUUUUAUAUGGAUAAAGCGCAUCUUUUAACCUUUCCAAUAGUUGUCUAAUCACUUGAUAUGAAAAAAAAAAAAAACAUAUUUCAGCCUUGCAAAAAAUGUGAAGAAUUACUUGAUCCUAAAGUACCAUAUAUUAGUGCUUGGUGAACUUAUAUAUCUUGCCAAUUGUACAUGUCUAAACAUUGUUUUUUUUUGUCAAUUUAUCAACAAGAUAAAGUUCCACUCCAACUCAAAGACAUUGAAAUGAUAUCAAACAUAUAUUGCACUAUCUUUGUGGAACUACUGAUGUGGGUCUAUUUUACUCAAGGGAAUCAAGCAACAAUUGAUUGGAUAUGUAGAUGUAGGAUACCUUUCAGAUCCACAUAAAGGUAGGUCAUAAACAGGGUAUAUGUUUAAUUGCAACGGUACUACUAUUUCAUGGAGAUCUGUCAAACAAUCAAUGAUGUCAUAUUAUCAAAUCAUUCAAAAAUACUUGCAAUUCAUGAAGCAAGUCGUGAAUAUAUAUAACUAAGAUCUAUGAUCCAACAUAUUCGGGAACCAUAUGGACUCUCCUCUAUCAAAAGUGACUCGACAAUAUUAUUUGAAGAUAAUGUUGCAUGCAUUGCACAAAUAACAGGAGGUCAUAUUAAAAAAGAUAGAACUAAACACAUUUCAUCAAAAUUAUUUUAUACACAUGAACACCAGAAAAUUAGUGAAAUUAGUGUGCAACAAAUACGCUCAAUUGAUAAUUUAACAGAUUUAUUCACAAAGUCAUUUCCAACCUCAACAUUAAAGAUGUCAAUACACAAGAUUGGAAUACAUCAACAUGAUGGAGAGUUUGCUUGUAAAAGGGUGUUAGUGUAUUGUACUUUUUUUCCCUUUAUCCAGAUUUUGUCCCGUUGGGUUUUACUAGCAAGGUUUUUAAUGAGAAAGUCCUAACAUAUCAAGAGUAACUUAAAUAAUUAUCAUAAUAUUGUACUCUUUUUCCUUCACUAGGUUUUCCUAUAUGGUUUUUUACUAGCAAGGUUUUAAUGAGACAUAUUCUUCUAAUGUGGUUGACAUCCAAGAAAAGUGUUAUAAAUAAAGUAAUGAAUACCACCACAUUUAUUAUAUUAAAUAUUAAUUAAUAUUAUUUAUGAAUUCCAUUAAUAUUCAUUAAUGGAAGCCAUUUGGAAAGCCUAUAAAAUGGCUUCCCAUCCCCUGUAAGAUGUAUCCUAAGGAAAGAAAGAAAUUCUCUCGCUCUUAUUCUCUAUGUCUUUCAUUCUUUCAACUCUGUUAAUUCUCUUUUCUGAUUCUUUCAUUCCCAUUAUAUAUUAUUAUUAAAAUAAUAUAUAGUUGUUCUCUACUUUUAUUUACGUUGCAUUUAUCCUCGUUUUACAACACUUAUUUUUUUCUUUUCCUUAUUUUAUUUUAUUUUUUUCCCUUCUAGUUAUUAUAAUUAUUAUUUCAAAUUUUUUAUAAAUAUUAUAUAUAACUUAUAAUGCAAUAAUAAUAAUAAUAAAAUAAUUUUACAAAUAUUGUUUCAUUCAUGUAUUGAAGACAGUUUUCUUAUAUAAACUUUCAUAAAUUUUCAAUUGUUUUUUACAAUAUGAUUAUUAAGAAAAUAUUACAAUAAAAAAUUAGUAUUGAUAAUUAUGAAAAAUCAAAAUUAAAGCAUGUGUUAUCGUACUUUCAGUGUACUUAUAUUGUAAUUUCAAUGCAUAACUAUGACACAUACAUUUUGGAACAAACUUAAUAGUGUUAGAAGCGUUGUCUUAUCCUACUAUAUUGAUUUCUAUAUUAUUAAGGCAUCCCAAUGAAUUAGCAUCAUAUACUAGAUGCAUUCUUAUUAGCAAUAAUUCUUAUAAUGAAACUCAUACACCUUAUAAAAAAAAAUGUCUUAUAAGGUUAAUUUAUAGUAGAUGAAAUGUUAAAAAAUAUAUAAAAUAUAUGACAACCAUUCAUCAAUGCCUGUUUAAAAGGAAAAUUUUAAAAUACAGUUAGGUUUUGCAGUAAUGUAUAAGACAUUUAAAGUAUUCAUGUUGUAAGAUCAUUAUAUUUUUGUGGUACGUAUACGUUGGCUUUUAUAUUAAUACAUAAUAUCGGUGUACUAGCAUUAUACAUUUAAUGAAUCAUUAUUAUGCAUGAUUUUUAUAAUAAAGCCUAUAAGUUUUAAGAAUUAGAUGAAAGAAAGAUCAUAUUCUAAGAUUGGUUUAUAAUCAAUGACAUUAUGAAAAUAAAAAUAUGAAUAAUGAUACAUAUGAAAUAUUAAUAAUAUAAAACUAAUAUCAUAAAUAAUAAUAUUAAUAAUAUGUUAAUAAUGAUGAUAAUAAUAAAUAUAUAAUUAUAAUUUUUUUUAAUAAAUAGUAUAGUUAGUCUUAACAUAUAGUAAAUAAAGCACAAAAGGUAGAAAAGAAAAGUAGAAAAGUAAAGUUAUAUGGGAGUAGGAGGAAAAGACAAAAUGAUGUAAUUGGAAUUAUGAAAUGAUCAAAUUAUCAAACUAUAACUUGUGAAUUUGACAAGACUUUGAGACUUGGUGACCCUUAAGGGAGAGCUUAUCAUCACUUCGAGCUAGGUGACCAUUUUUAAAAAAAUUUCGAAAAUAAAGCCCAAGAAAAAUUUAUUUAUUAAGAAUAAUAACAAUUUUGUAGUUUUUUAAUACAAAUUAGAUAUUUAAUUUAUUAGAAUCAUUUUGAUGGUAAUGACAAACAAAACAACUCCUUAAAUAGGUGAAAUAAUUCAUUUUCUCAGUUUUACAUGCAAAAUUAUUUUAAAACAAAAGGGAUAAUACAUUAUUUUUGUUCAUCAAUCCACAUUUUGACUUUCAUUUUAAAAUCCAUCUAUAAAAAUCUCUCUUUAUAUAUAUCUGCCUAGAUUGCCUAACCAUCUAUUCAGUCAUUGUCUAUAACUUCUUGCCUGAUUAUCAAAUUAGAUGUUCAUAUUUGCAUAUAUUUAUUCAUUCCACCAUGUAUUUUGUUGGCUUAUUUGUAAUGUAUACAAUUUUGAUUAUUUGAAAACCGAAUUUCCCCUAACCCACUAAUAAAAAGCAAGUAAAAGUCCGACCAAGAGGGGUGUUCUUGGCCGGUGGCCUUCCUGAUAAGUCACCUUAGCCGUAGACUAGAUUUAGAUUUUGCAAUUAGUACCUUUCUUUUCCUUGUAGGAAUCACUAUCAUCUUGACCAAUCUAGCCAUGUACCAAAAAGUCAAUUUUGCAAAGUUUAAGAAGUUUGCUUUAACCCUGUUCAUCAUAGUUGACAGAAGUUAGAAUUACAAUGAAAUAUCUAGGAGAAAAUGUCCGCUGGAGCAGAGAGAGAGAGUGAAGGCAAUACAUUCAGUCAUGAAUUUGAUGCAAAUCCCAAAGUACGUAAUUGUGUCGAAUACUCUCACCAUGAUUGUCAAUCUAUCGGAUCAGACGAUUACUAUGUUUGCCAAAAAUGCCUGGGCCGUAUGUGGAAUAAAUCAAUUCCACAAGGAGGGGAAACUGCAAAAUUCCGUACAAGGUCACUGGAAAACAGGCUAAUGCAGCCAAGGUAAUAAGAAUCCAUGCCUUAUUUUCACCAAAGAGAAGAUAGAUUGCGCUACUGUAGGCUAUCAUCAUGAAUGUUACGGAGAGGAAUAGAGUAACAAGGCCAAAUAUCAACCUCCUGGGAAGGGCAAAAAUAAAAUCAUCUUCUGCAUAUCGUGCCGUGAGAAUGGAUAGGCAUAUCAGCACCGAAGCAAUGGAUAGGAAGAGGGAAAGAGCAUCCGCAGCUGCAAAAACUUUGAAGGCCUUUUCUUUGGAGAAAUUUGGUAUGCCAGUAUCAUCAUGGUUGCCACCCGGGAUGGUAAUUGCUGCUGCAAACACUACAGUAGCAAUAAGCGCUGCUGCCAAUGUGUAAAAUUUUGCUGUGCCUUUCAUCCAUUUCUCCCCUUCUUUUAUCAACUUUUUAUGUUCCUUUAUAAAUGCCAUUUUCGGUUUAUCUCCAUCUCUGUUCUCAGAUUCACUGAAGGCUCUCGGGGCAUAUUUUUCAAUUUCCUGUGUAAAAAUAAAAAAGUUUCUAAGAUACAGAAAAAGAGUGGAUAUGCAUAAGAAAAUUAAUUCCCCUUCAAAACAAAAAUUAUUACCUUAAACCAAUGUAACUCGCGUUGCAUUUGUAGAGCUGCACCAGAAACAAGACUGAGCCGGUGCGGAGGGGCCAAUUUUCCAGCCAAAUGCAAGAUAUUAUCGUUAUUUGUAUCAUCUCUGGUUCGUAUUAUAAGUUGUCUAUGCAUACCGGUUUCGCAGAUGAGGUUGAAAAUCUUUUCAUAACGAUUUAAUACUACCAAUUUGAAUACAUCCUCAUCCAGAUACUCGAGUGCAAAAGGAUAUGACUUUAUAAUCUCUUCCAGAAUCUCGGGAAUCCCAUAUUUUGCCCCAUUAAUGAAUGAUUGUCUAAAUAUUUCCUUUGCUCUUGACACUUUCAAAACUUCAGUACAUAGGUGGUUAAGCAAUUGAAGAGUCAGAGUAUGCAUUGUUUUUGUUUCUUGGAUAUGCUUGAUGGGUGGUGGCACUGCAAUUAAAAUUAUAUUAAGGACAACAUAACAUUGCAUUCAAGACUUUUGCAUGCUUUAGUGGUAGUUUUGUUGUGUCCCUUACCUAACCAUCCAACCGGUUCCCAGAAUAUUGCAUUUGCCUUUCGGCAAGCUGUGUGCAACGUAAAAUUGAAGCAGGUCAGAUGCAAAAGCAGGACUAACAGAAGAAAAAACAAAAAAGCAACCCUGAACCAAGUACCAAUUAAACACUAAUCUAAAUUAAAGUGAUCGUGAGAAGUUGCCAACUCAUAUUUCAUAUAUUUCCCUUAAACCGUCGCACUUGAAUUUAAAGCCUAAGAAUCAAGAAGCUCAAUUACUCGAUAUUCACAAAAUCUAUCAAAGCAAUGAAAAUUGUGUAUCUCUGAGUAGGGAAUUUGAUUGUAGAGCUGAUUUCAAAUCCAUUAAGGAAAAAAAAUGCAGACAAUUUUGUGAGGACAAAUUAAAAUUGUGAGGACCUCGAAUUCAACAAAUUAGCAUUUCUCUACCGGGUGCAAUUUGGCAAAUUGGUUUGACCUUACUCGAAUCUCGGUGAAGUUGAGAAACCAUUUUUAGUACUCAAGUUAGGAUUUGGUCGAGUUUCUCAACCAAAAGUUAAUUUUGGUUAAGCUCAAUUUUGGGCUGAGUUCAGACUAAUGCUUCAACAAUCUAAGCUGAAUUAAACUCCAUUAAUAUUUUAUAAUAUUUGUAGAAUGUAUUACUAUAUAAUAAUAUCAAAUUUUUUUAUAAAAUAAGUUUAAGGGAAAAAUCAUCAAAAUAUAUUAAGCUAACUCUCAGAAAUUUGCCUACCCCCUUGUGAAUACUAUUUGGAAAGAAAAUUAAUUAGGAAGCCUCUUAAGCAAGCCGAAAAGGUAUCUUGUCCUUUGUAGCCUAUGCAUCCAAAAGUACAGGGCCUAAUGAACAUGAGACCCAAGCAUGGUGCCUACUACUUCAUCACAUGUACGGAUGGUUAUAUCUACAAGUCCAAAGAAUUGCUUUGAUUUAUAUGUUAUAGGAAUAUUGUAAAAAAAUUGAAAAGAAAAAACUAUUACAGCAUUAAGGAUAAAUCAUGGACAUGAGUAUCCAUUGAAGAGUUUUAAAAAUCUCUAUGAUGAAAAGGAAAUCCAAAGAACAAUCAAUAUCUUCAAGGACUCCAUUGUAAAAUGGUUGAACUGAAAAAAGUAACCAUAAACUUUUGAUAUGGUUCACUCAAAAAGGCACAAGCCAACUAUCUAACAUCUUUUGGGGUGGGAAAGGAGGGUUACUAUUUUGAUUACAACUUAAAUCUUGAAUAGAGUGCCCUCAAAAUCAAUUACUUCAAAUCCAUAUAGUUAAGAAGCCAAACCUAACUCACUUGUGAUCCUAAGGGUUAGCAGGUUUAGUUCAUGUAAAUUCUCAUAGAUAUUGUGCUAUAAAGGAAACAAGUGCACUUUCAUUAGAUAUUCUAAUAAAUGAAAGGUUGCGUGAUGCUUAGUGAACAACUCAAUGGGAGUAUAAUUGAAAUUAAGUCAUAUGAAGUUAAUUUCUUAUAGGAUGAUAUUUUGAGUAAAGGAGCAUUGAACAGGAGUCUCAAUUUAUUUGAGGCAAUUAAACCAAAGGAAAAUACUAUGAUAUCUCAUAUCGAAUAAGGGAAAAAGUUAUAUAAAUAGAAGCUUCUCUUAAUUAUUUAGACACAUUUUAAUGUUAUGAGGGCUCUUUGAGCCCAAAGUGGAUAGUAUAUAUUUACAUGGUUGGGAGUGAGUCAUUACAAAUGGUAUCAAAGUGUAUCCUCAUAGAUCGAGAUAGAAAAAUUCAGUAUGUGACUUACUAACAAUUGCAUGCAAGCUCCCCAUGAAUUGGUAUUCAUAAUUUAACAAGAUGAAUGUUAUCAACCUCUCAAGACUACCCCUACAAUCCUUGAGUUGUAGAUCCUCCUAUUAUAUGAUCAAUUGACAUACUCUCCAAGAUACGUCAAAUUCCACUUAAGGAAUUAUCGUGGCCACAAUUUUCAUAAUCACAUGUCCUUAGGAUCACCUAAGGGGACAUAAUGUCUCAAACCCCUAAGAUAUCAUGGUGCUUAUCUUGAGAAUACCUAUUAUCACAUGGCUCAAUCAUAGUGACCCAAUCUAUAGAGAAUAUAUGAGCACUUUAGGGUCUCACUCAUGGGUCAAAGCCAUUGAAGACCUUAGCACUAGAUCAAUAUUCUCUAAAGGUUGAGAGCUUAUACAGCAUAGCAGCUUGGUGAAGUCUAGACUACCUAAUGACCAAUGUCUGACUCACUGUAAAUCCUAUUUAAUGUCUAACCUAUUAGAAUUGAGCCCUAAAAAGAAUGACAUGAUGUAACAGAUAGAGAUUUAUUUAUAUUUUUUACUUUCUCUUUAUUAUUUCAUUGACAUGAAUUGGUUAAUUAGAUGAUCCUGUAUGGUUAAUUAAUCAAUUAGGACUCAUUUUAGGCAAUAUUAAGUGACCCAAGCCUUAGUGGACUCAAGUCAUUUAAGCCUAGUAGGGAAUCGCUAUAAAUACCAUUUAAGGGUUAGGGUUCCAAUCACUUUUUGAAAGACAAUCAUCUUCUACAUCUACAGAGAGAGAGCCUAUCGUUCCUCUCUUCCAAAGCCCACAUUUUGGAGUGCCAAGAUCAUGGAUCAAGUCAUCAAGCAAAAUAUUUUCGGUGUAUGAGACCUCUGGACUCUUUAGGCUUCAUCUUCAUUAAGCAGAAUUGAUUUGAGAACCAUUUAAAUCAAAGGUAAAUUUUGUUAGCCCAAGGGUUCUCCUAAUCGCAUUUUGAUGAUAAUAAACCAUGGUUAAGUCGUUAAUUGGUUUGAAUUAUAAAGAAUUUCAGGUAUUAGUUUGGAAAUUCAUCAAAGGACUCAAUGGAUGCAAGAUCAAGACAAUUGGAAGACCCUUUAAUAAUAGGAAAUAUAUGUAAGAUGAAUGCAUGGUGCACUUAGGAUUUCAUAUUUUUUCAUGCUCUUUAAAAACUAGGUAUAGGCAUUAAAGUUACAUUUCCGUCAAAACCCGGGUUUUAUCAAAUGAAACUUAGGAAAAUUGUUUCAUAAUUGACAUAUUAAUUGACCGAAAUACCUUGCCUAAGUGUUAGAAGAGAAAAGAAUAAAAAAAAAGAGGUUUUGAGGCAAAAAAUGGUGAACUGGUCAAGGUAUUAGUCAACUGACUCAACCGAUUAGGGCACCGGUCAAUCGAUUACACCUUCUUGAUCAAGGUCUAGUUGAGAAAUGCAAUAAAUCUUCUCUCUCUUCUUGUAGCUUUGCAUUCCUGGUCGAGGGAUAUGCCUUCUUGGUCGAGAUCCGAUUGAGGUUUGGUCAAGGAUUAGUCGAGGCGUAACGGUCACCUACCAUGCAUUUAUUGUCCAAUGGCUUGUAAACCGGUUGACACUCAACUCGACUAAUCAAGGCUACUUUUUGGCAUUUUUGGUUCCCAAUGCUAGAAACCUAUAAAUUGAGAACUCCGCUUCAUUUAUGAGGUAGAGAACACCUGCAUUUAUUUGUCUACCUACUUGUUUUUGCCUCAAAAGUUCUCAUUCUUUCCUUAGUGCAUUAAAUCUCCAUUUGCAUAUUCUUUAGUGCACCUUUGUGAUUCUUCCUAACAUUUAAGUUGUAUUUGAGCCCUUGUUGAGCUAGGUUGAGAGAUUCAAACUUAUCAUUUGAGUGUUAAAAGCUUCAAGUGAGUAACACUUGAAGGGAUUGUGUAAUAUCCCAUUAGAGUUGGAAUCCAAGUGUAAAGGUGAUUAAAAGCUUGGUUGAAGCUUCAAGUAUAGUGGAUUCUUCACUUAGUUAGGAGGUUGAGGGGAGUGGACGUAGGUAAGGAAGUGUUGAACCACUAUAAAAUCUGAGUUUGCUCUUUCUAACCUUAUCUCUUUAUAUUUGUGUUUCCUUUGCUUGAAUUCGUUGUGUUUGAAAAAUAUUUUUUUUAAACCCAAUUCACCCCUCCCCCCCUCUCCCUUCCCCUCUUGGGUGUUUUCUAUAUUAAGAUUAGCCUUUUAUUUUCUCAAAGUUUUUAAUGCUUGUUCUUUAGAUUAUAAAAUGUUAAAAUUUUGAUUUUUGCUUCUGUUGCAUAAGAUUUAGAGCUCUAGGGUAUUUUGCAUGCACCUAUACAAUCUAGGGUUAUGGGAAUAGAGAGAUCUAGGUUUCACAACAUAACUAAACACACUAGCACACUCACCAUAGGAAACCCAUCCUAAUGACUAGGGCAAGUCAUCCUUCCAAUAAGGAGGUAGUGUACUAUAGCCUUAAAUGGAUUAUUGAAGUCCAUGAACUAGUUGUGAAUGAGUCAUUAACUUGCAAGGAAUCUAUGACUUAGAUUUUCCAUGUAACUCCUAAUUCACUCAAGUCAUGUACAUGCAAGUAAUGUAGGUUUGAAUGCUUAACAUACAUAAUUCAUAAAUAGGAUAGUAAAUAGAAAAUCGAAGCCAUAAUGAAAGUAUUAAUGAACUCCAUUUAUGGUUACAUCAUAUCAAGCUUUUAAAGAAUCUAUCCCAAUAUCAUGAUCUUAUGAUGCAAACAUGAAAGCUUCACCUUAAUGCCCACAAUUACAAUUAUGAGAUAGUUCCAAGUUUUUUUCCACACACAUCUAAAUCUAGUGAAUUAAUAUGUAAUGGUAAAAUCCCACUUAGUGGCAUAAUCUAGUAGGUGGCAAGUCACUACUCAAGGUUACUAUCUUGUCGAGUCACUCAUAUCCUUAGCAAGAUCUUUAACAUCUAUAAAAACUCACUCCCAAUCAAGUAGAUAUUGUUUACUCUGAACUCAAAGGGACCUUAGAGAUUUAAGACACAUUUGCAUGGUUAAGAAGAGCUCUUACAUACAUAAUGCUAAGAACUUUUUCCCCUAUUCAAUGUAGGCUAUCAAAACCACCCCCAUGAAGACAUAAAGUCCUCAUUGUGUCCCAUAGGAUUAUAGGAAAAAUUGGAUUUUAAGGGAGCCAGUACUUCCCUAUGGGUCUAGUGGUUCCCACUCAAAAUCAUAUUCCUUUGUAAAAAAUUAUUUGAGGAAUAGUUGGAUUCUUUAUUUGUAUGUGUGUAUAAGAGCAUUUUGGUACAUACAGAAGAUUGCACUAGCACAUAUAAAUAGUCUUUUUAGAUUCGGAUAAUUAAUUAAUUGUAGCUCAAUAGAGCAAAUUAUUUAAUUAAGACCCAAUGAGUGAGAUUAAGUAACCCAAAUGUAAGAUUAGCUCAAGUCACUCAAACUAAGAGGUAAGCCUAUAUAAACUCCUUAAAGGGUUUAAGGCUUAGUACUUUUCAUCCAUUCAAUCUUCUAUCUUAAUAUCUAUCCCCACAGAGAGGAAUCUAACAUCCUUAUGUGUUAGGACAGAGGAAAGAGAGCUAUCAAGCAAAAGAUUGUGAGGUAUUUGAGAUUUAAAUUAACCUUUUCACCAAUUAGAUUCAAUUCCUUGAGCACUUAAAUCUAAUAUUCAUUGUUUUGAAUUAUCCCAUUACAUAGUUCUAGCAUUUAUGUGAAGAUAGUAGCAUGCACCUAAUGAUCUAGGGCUUGAAGUUAAGUAAUCUAGAUGUUCCAACACAUGAGAAGCCUGAAAUUUUUAAUAAAGCUCUCUUAUCCCUACUUGUAAUAUAUGGAAGCUACAGUGAAAUAGCAUAUGAAGUUUAUUAUCAAGAACUCUAUUUGAGAAUUAAUUGAACUAUUGUUAAGACAUAAGACCUUAAUGAAUAAGUAGGUUUUUAAGGUCAAACUUAAGGUAAAUGAUGCAAGGUGUUAAACUUAACUCAUGAAGAAAGGAUACAACCAAAAUGAGAGUGUAGAGUAUAAAAAAAAAAAAAAAAGAACUUCUCAUGAGAAGUGAGGUUUGCCCCAACUCUCCUUAUUCAAACCAUUAUCACAUCUUUGGAUUUUAAAUUAUAUCAAAUAAAAAUUCAAAUUGUUUUUCUAAAUGGAGAACUCAAUAAGAAGAUCUAUAUAAAUCAACUAACUUGUUUUAUGGCAACUAAAUAGAAAGGUAAAGUUAACAACUACAAAGGUCUAUUUAUAACCUACAAUAAUCAUCUAAACAAUGGUAUAUUACACUAAUGGGUUUAUGAUGGUCUAAGAACACUAUUGCAUGUUUGUUAAAUGGUGUAAGGGUAGAUUCUAUAUUCUAUUUUUUGUAUACAAAUGAAAUGUUGGUUAGGGAUGAUAAUGAGAUGGUUGCCUCUAAAGUGUGAUGGUCGUCAACUUUUAAAAUGAACAAUAUCCUUAAAGCAAACUAUGUGUUCAAAGUUAUGAUCCUAAUCAAUCAAUCAAGGAGACUUCACUACAAGAAAUAGAAUAAUUAGCGACAAAAUUUUUAGAUUGGGAAAAAAAAUUGUCCCUAAAUGUAUCAAUUAGCGACGAAAUUAAAAAAUUGUCUCAAUAUUUUUAUAUACAUAGUUUUAGAGACGAAAAAUGUAUCUUUUUGUUUCCAAUUAUAUUAAUAUGCAAACUUUCAAAAAAAAUAAGUUGUUCAUAAUCAAUUUUGCGACGAAAGUAGACAUUUAGGGAUGAUUUUUUUUUUGUUGCAAGAUAUAUAUUUUGGCGAUGAAAUAAUUUAUUUAAUGUUUUGUUACUAAAAAUGUUAUAGAGAUUUAGAGACAAAAAUAUAGCUUUUGUCACCAAAUAUACUGAUAUGAAGACAUUCACAUAAGUAAGUUAUUCAUAAAAAAUUUGGCUAUGAAAGUAGACAUUUAAGGAUGAUUUUUUUUUUCAAGAUAUAUACUUUGACGAUGAAAUAUUUUGUUGAAUUUUUUGUUAGUAAAAAAUGAUAUAGAAAUUUAGACACAAAAUUUGUCACUUAUGGUUAUUUUGCAACAACAUGAUAUUUUUAUUUUUAUAUAUUAUUUUAUAUUUUUAUUAGAAUAUAUUACUAAAAUUAGAUUGAACAAUAUUAUAUAAUAUUAAAAUAUAUUUAAAUUUAAUAUAUUACAAUCCAUAUAUGUAGUAUGAAUUUUCUACUCGAGUCAUUAAAUUGGAUGAGAAUUUGAUAUGAGAUUUUAAUAUGUAAAAUUCCUUUGCAUUGAUUAGUCUUUUAUAUAGUGAGUUUUUAAAAUUUUGUUUAAUUAAAUCUGUGUAUGACAUAGUUAUACUUUUGUAAUUGUAACAUUUUGUUACAUUAAAUACUUUUCAAUUAAUGUUAUAUGAUCCAAAAAUAAUAUUACAUUUUUAAAUAUUAUUUUAUGUUUUUAUUAGGAUAUAUUACUAAAAUUAGAUUGAAUAAUAUUAUAUAAUACUAAAAUGUAUUUAAAUUUAAUAUGUUUGUAGACCACCCCUUGGGCCUCUUUCUUUUUUGGGCUGUCUUUGUUGGGCUUGGCCCUUUUUUUAAAGAGAGUAGGCCCGUUUGAGCUUUUAUUUGGCCUACCCAGAUGAGGACAAGUGCCCUCACUUGGCCAUCCAUUUGAGCCUUUUUAUUGCCAUUUUCGGCGAGGGUUUGAGCACGCAAUUCUAGGGCAAGGAGAGGACCUUCCAUUUUGGGAGAAAAAGGCGACGGUUGGGAAAGCAUCUUUGGAGAAGAGAAAAACAGAGUAGAGAGGAUUUGAACGAAGAGAAUUUUUAGAGAGCAGGGCCUUGAGGAGGAGGAACAUCUGGAAACGGAUUGGAGAGGAGCAGAGCAGAGGAGCAGAGCAGAGGAGCCUUAGCUUCUAGAGAGGGCUUUUGGGUCCUCCAGGUAUGGUCACUGUGGGUUUCACCUUUAUUUAUUCAUGCUGUUCUCUUCUUUUCUUCAGAGAGCUCAAAAAUCACUUUGCUAUUUAGAUGUGAGUAUCAGAGAAAGCAUCUGAACCUGAUUGAUUUUCUUUAUGGUUGUUCACGAGCUUGGUGUGGCUUAUUUAUCCCUUUCUCCUUUGGUCUAGCUUGAAAAUAAUCUGAUUAUCUUUUUCUUUUUAACUACAUUGUGCCUUGGAAGAUUACAUCUCUGUUUUUCAUUCAUAAAUCUGGGUUUAGCUUCUUCCCUCUCUAUUCAUAAGCACAGGAAUGACUCAUGACAGAUACUUGGUUAAGAAGACUUCUUUGUUUGUGAGUCUGUUUUGCUAAUCGUGCUUUUGAUAUUUUCUCUAUACUAUUGGAGUUUGGUUUGGGUUCAUUUUGACUCCCCAAGAGGAAUUCUACUGGUGCCCUCCCUGUGUUAUGGGGUGAGUAAUGAUAUUCCUAAGGAUUUUAAGAGAGAAAGAACAGGGGAAGGAAUGUCUCAUCAACCUUGCUGAUUUCCUGGGCCUGUGAACUUCUCAUUUGAGACUGCCAUUGCUUUCUGUAUUAUUAACGGCAUCCCUGCCAUGGUGGAAAUCUCGUCUUCAUCCUAUACAAGAUGUAUCUUCCGUGUAGUCACCAUCUUUGGAACCCGUUGUGAAGCUUUCACUAAGUCAAAUUGUGCUCGGUUUCACUUGUUGCUACUGACUUUGCAUGGAACAAUAUAUGGCCAAGAAAGCUCUCAGGAUUUCCACAGCAGAAACAAGGCCAAAGUGGGGUAACCUUAUUUGAGAAGUGUAUUCAGUAGAGAGAGAGAGGUGGCUUUGUCAGAGAGAGAAAUUUAGAAGAAAAUUUGAGGAAUACCCGGAAUCACGGACUGAGUUGGAGACAAAAACGCGGGUGGCGAAAUUCAACUAGUUAAAAAAAUCUGAAACAUGAGCUCCAAGUCACACAGGAAACUGUGAAGGCACCAGCGAAUGAGGUUUCAAAUCUGGAAAUUAUCUAAGAUUUUUCUUGAUGGUGAGAUUCAAUGGAUUUUUUUUCUGGGUUGCAAAAGAAGCCAGUGCAUGGUGAGGUUAACAGUUCGUUUUCUUCUUCAAGGAUGGGAACUCCAAGGACUGACCACUCGGUGGGGUUAGAAGAUGUAUUUUGGCGGAUGUGGAUAUCAUGAACUAUCAAUUUGUCAAAAUAAAUUUGGUGGUUCCCAUGGUUAUUCGAAUGUCAAAGAAUUGCAAAUCAAGAAGACUUUCCAAGUUGGAAUUUACUGGAUUUUUUUAAAUCCUUGCGGCUAUUCUGGUUUGUGGUUCAGAAGGGUUGAAUUUCGAGGGGCUAUGUUUUCUUUAGUUAAAGAAGAGGCUCAAUGAUCAGUUUAAUCAAAUUUGUAUAACUGGAAUCCUAGUGAUCAUGAUACCAUGUGAGUGGAUGGAUGUGAAUUGCACGGGAGUGGAGAAAAAGGGAAUAAGUAUUGGAUGUGGACCCACCACACAAGUGCAAUUAUGGAAAUUACAACACUUUCUCGCCAAGUGGGGGGUAUGAGUAUGGAAUUGAUCCCAAAGGCUGAGGGUAUGGCUCAUUUCCAAGACUAAAAAAAGAGACUAAUGGGAACAACAAGAUGAUUGCGCGUGGUUCCCACCAAAAUUCUUUAUGCAAGGCUACUCUCCUUUUGCACCUUAUGCUUGGAUCUUCUUCAUACUUGGCAUUUCAUGGCCUACUUUCCCAUGGACGUGGGCCCUUUUGCUGCAUGGACAUCCACCUGGCCUCCUCCCAAGGUGAGUUUUAUUUUGCUAUAUUUUCUUUUCAAAAUUUCCUCUUUAGAAAUUUUCAUAGGCGAAUAAAAUUCCAGAUUUAAAAAAAUUCAUGCUGCCAUGUUUUCUUCUUGGCAUGCAUUUUUUAUGAUUUUUAAAAUCAUUUUCUCAAACACCUUGAGUUUUCAAAUAACUCCUCAUUUUCCAAGAGUGGGUUGGGCCCAUUUGGACCUUUCUAUAGUUUUAGUAAGUUGCAUUUUAGGGACCUCAUUGGGGGGCCUCAUUUUUAGCUCCUUUGGGCCAACAGUCAAGGAAAUUUUUUUCCUCUUAUCUUUUUUUGUAGCCGCAGGGACCACCUUAGGAGGCCACACCUAGCCAGAGACAGUUUUGAAAAUUGAGAAAUUUUGAAUCAUGAACAAUAUUGAGAAAAUUAUUUUAAAUCAAGGAAAAUGAGAAGAUUUAUUCAUGUUUAUUAAAAAAGGUGAGAGUUGGGAAAACUAUUCUAAAUCAAGGAAAAUUGAAAAUUUUUAUUUAAAAUUAAAAGAAGUUUUUAAAAAAAACUUAUUAAAUAAUAGAAAUAGUGUAAUAGCCCAAUAAAUAAUAGAAAUAAUAUAAUUCAUGAAACUGAACAUGUUAUGACCGCACAAUAUAAUAUAAAUCCCACACGAAAUGCAAUGACCACCAUGCAUCAAUAAUUCCUUAAUCCUUAAAUAAUCAAAUUAAUGUACUUUGGAUGUUCGAUAAAAUUAUAAUAAUAAAGGAAACGUCAAGCUCAUUCAUUCAAAAUGUUGGAUCAAACAAAGCCAAACUAAUUCUAACUAUUCCACAUUAAUCAACGGAUUACAACUAAAACAAAGUGAAAACAUGCAAAAUAUGGCACCAAUUUAAUUAAAUCAAUUAACUAAAGUUAUAUAUAUAAACAACUACAAAUUAAAUAUUGAUGCUUCAAAACUAAAAUUAGCAAACUUUAAAACAAGUAAACAAUAACAUGAAAUUAACCAAAUUAAUUAAAUAAAAUUAUAUACAUCUACUAAAUUGAUAUUAAAUCCUAAAUUAAAAUAAUAAACUUGGAGUAUGAAACCAAUUAAAUUAAUAGAAUAAAUUAUGAAACACACGUAAUCUACAUAAGAUGAAUGAUUGAGAACUAAUUCAAAGGAGCACAAAAAUAUUAACAUGGAUCAACUAGAAUAACAAUUAAUAAUUUUAUGGGUAAUAUAAACUAACAUGGAUAUUUUAAAUAGCAACUAAAAAUUUUAAAAAUUUUAAAAAUUAACAUGAAUCAAUAAAAUAAGAAUUGAUAAUUCCAAGGAUAAUAUAGAUAAACAUGGAAUUUCAAAAUCCAACAAAAAAUAAUAAAAAAAAUGACAUGAGUAUUCAAAGUUACCAACAAAUAAUUUUACAUAAACUAGCAUGAAUAUUAUAAACCUACAUUGAUAUUAGCUUCCAAUUGUUUAAUUUUAAAUUUAAAACAAUACAAACCAUUGACACCAUGACCCUGUCAACUUGAAAUUAUAUAUAUAUAUUUUUUAUUCCAUAAAACAAACCACUAACAUGUUGAAAGUAUUCCAUGACCGUAUAAAUUAUUUAUACUACAUGAAUUCAUAUAUUUUAAAACGUAAACUAAAGCCCUAAGAACUAAUAACUUUCCAAAGGAAACUCUAAACAACUACAAAUUAAUAAGAAACAAUUCAAAUUGAUUUUUAAAUAUUCUAAAACAUAAAUAAAUAAAACAAGAACUAAUAACUUUCUAAAACAAAUCUGAAUGGCUUUCUUCAAAAAAAAAAAAAAAAAAAAAUGAAGGUCACACACUUUUCUCAAUCUCAAAUUCAUUUUCUUUUAAUCCAAAGAUGAUUAACAAAAGAAAUGUGGCAGCUGCCUGUACUUCCCCACUCUCAUUUUUCAUUUAAAAAAAAAAAAAAAAUAGAACAUGGGCACAUUAACAUAAACAACCCAAUGGCCAGCUGUAACCAUGCAUGGCCUCACCGUUUGUAUCCCAUUAACUUAUAAUUUCCAUGGCAACCACAGAUCAAUAGUUUCAUUAAGUCCAACCACAAACAUUAUUUCUAUUUCAUUGAACAGCUGACCACAUACUUCAAUGUCCUUAUUAUUGUUAUUUUUUACUUUAAUCAACAACACCAACACCGAAACUCAUUAUAGGAAACAGAAAGAAUCUUCCAUCUAUGUUCAAGCCAAUCAAACUCAAGUAUAUGAAAAUCAAAUUUUGAGACUUUAGAGAUAUGAGAUAUUAAAAUAAAUAUUCUUCCAAAAACAAACAUGAUUUAUUAACAUUCCAAACUCCCUUCAAAACACAGUGAAAAUGGUGGCCUUUUAGGCCCUUAAAUCCUACCAGUUUUGGCUAAGACCUCAAGACAAAAACACGAAACUUCAAGCCAAAACAAAUGACCAAAAUGGCUGAGCCAAACCUUAAAUUCAAAGAGGUUCAACACUGUUUGAAUCUGGUUUUAGGGCUAUGGACGAGAUGGUGUCGAGAUGGGUUGCUGCAUUCCCAAAAGAUUAUAGCUGGCGGAUGUGAUCUGCAACUACUGUGUGCUACAUGGACUCGCGAAUGGCAACGUUGAAGAGGUGGCUGCUUUGAAGAAGACCUAUGCUAGUUCUACUACUCGGCCCUCCGUAGCGUCUUCUCAAAGCUCCUUAUGUUGGUAGAGAAGAUGAUGGUAUGGAGAAGACGCUCAUUUGGUGUUUGGCCUCCUCUCAUUCGCUCUUGCCCGCUACUGAAGAUGAUUCCCCCCGUGAGCUCUCCUCCGCCUCCCCAGAAAAAUCUUUCCCUGCAAGCUCCAACCUCCGCUUCCUUCCUCAACUCCUCUAUUUUCUUCUAAAAGUCCAACUCUCUUCUCUCUCUCUCGUUUUCGAAUGCUCUGUUAUCCCAUCUCUUCUAGCACCAACCGCUGCUUUCUCUCUAAAAAAUGGACCCAAGAAUCAGCUCUACUCUGAGCUCCCUUUCCCGCACUCUCUUCUCAAAACUCAUUGAAAAACCCCCCUCAAUCCCGACUCUCUCUUUCUCCCCUUCUCAUCCUUCUCUCUCUCAAAAAUUCCCCAAACCUCUCUCAGCCUCCUCCGUUUUUCCCCUUUCCCAAAAACCUCUCUACCCAUACCUCCCCAUUCCUCUAAGCUGUAGGUGGUCCUUUCAGCAUGGUGGUGACAUGAAGCCAAGGUCAAAGUGGGAGAGCUUUUUUAAGGCCCUCAUGUCUGCCCAAAACUCCCUAUCUCUCCAUGGCAAAAACGUUAAUGAGGCCUUAAAAAAACCAAAUAAAGCAAAGCCACCUUUUGGUGGUCUACAAUACCACUUUACUUUUCUAAAAAUAUUUAUAAUAUUAAAUAAAAAUAUAAUAUAUUUUAAAAUAAUAAAAUUUCCUUUUAUUUUUAACAUGCUCACAUUUAAAUAUUAUACAUAUUUUUUUAAUAAAAUAAUUUAAUUUGAUAAUCUCAAAUAUAAAAAAUAAUAUAAUUAAUUAUUAAUUAAUUAAUUUAUUUUAAAUUUUUUAUAAUUAUUUUUAUUUUUAUAAUUAUUUUUAAUUUUAAUAAUAUAUAAAUUAUAUAUUUAAUUUUAAUUUUUUCAUAAUUAUCACAUUGAGAGCCGUGCACUAAAGGAAAGGUGGAGUAUCUGCUCAUACCCAAACAUCAUUUAAAUUAAAAUAUCACAAUUUCAUCAUUUCACCUAGUCUUUCAAGAGUAGCCACUCAUUCCUACAGGACUAGACACUCAUGUUCAAUUCCACCUACCACUUCUCUUUGGUUUGACCAACAAGCAAAGGAAACCUCCUUGCUAUGAGCUUUAUAUGGUCUCCUUGCACAUGCAUUCUCCACGUGGAAACCAACAUCUCUCAAAAUAAAAAUAAAAAUAAAAAUAAAAGCCUUCCAAAUAAGUGGUCUACAAUAAGUUGUCUGUCAAGACUCAAGACCAAAUCAUAGUCAACUUUUUAUGUGACCCACCACCAAAAAAUAAUGGUAUAUAUUAUUUAUGUAUUAAAUAAUAUUGUUAAAUAACGUAUACUUGGAUACCAAGCUAUUGAAUAAUGCAAAAAACUAAUAUAUAUGUAAUAAACCAAUUACUUAUCAUAAUUAUAAUUUUUUAUAUUUAUAAAAAAAUAUAAAAAUUUGUUAUCAGCUAGAAUAAACUGAUUCUAAUAUUAAAAAAAUGAAAAGAUAAAAUAUGAAAUUCUUAUCAACAAAUUAUUGUAUUCAAUGUAUCAAAUAUCGUUUUCAAAUUUCAAUUGAAAAAAUUUGAGAUUUAUGCAAUUACAAUAUAAGGGAUUUAUAUUUAAAACAUGUAUUUUAAAAAUAUAUUUAGUAACCAUAUAAAAUAAUUUAUUAUAAUUUAAAAUUUCUAAUUAAAUAAAAAUAUUAAAAAAAUUUAAUUAAAUAAAAAUAUUAAAAAAAUUUAAUUAAAUAAAAAUAUGUUUCACAUCUCAUUUGAAGGAAAUUAUUUCUCUUUUGAUAUUUGAAAUGUAAACAAAUUAAUUUACAAGUAUGAAAACACUAAUUAAGAGUGUAUUUGGUAGUAUUUUUAUUUGAAGUGCUAUUAACAUAAAUGUUUUAUGUGAAAGUAUUUUUAGGAAAAUUACCUAUUAAGAGAGAGUUUUAUAGUAUUUUUAUUCAAAAUGUUUUUUCAUAGAAGUGUUUUCUCUACAAAUGUUUUUAGGAAAAUUAUUUAUAAAGUAUUUUUUUAUAAAACAUUAUAAGUGAUUUUCUAAUACUAUAAUUUUUUUUUAGGAACUACUACAAGUGAUUUUUGAAAAUUAUAAGUAAUUUUUUUUAUAUUUGUAAUAAUAUUUUUGAAAUUUUGUCUAGCAUAUAUUUUUUUCCUUAAAACACUUUUUAUGUUAAAAGGUAUUUCUUAAAAUCACUAACAAAUGAAAUGUAAGAAUUCUACCUAAAUAUCAUUAUUUAUUAUAUUCAACCUUAUAAUUCUACUAAGUUUGAGAAGUUCUCCCAAAUUUGACUAAUAUUUUAUCAACCAAAAGUUAUAAUUUAUAUUCUAAAUAGAUUAGUCAUAAAAGUCACUAUAAUUCAUAUAAAUAAGAAUUAUACUAUAAAAAAAAAAAAAAGGAAGCCACCCAUUUUUUAUAUUUUUGCCGAUCAUCUCUUGUAUAAAAUACCACAUUUUGAAUGAGAACAUUUACAAUAUAGAAGUGUAAAUAUGAAUACACACAUGUUAUUUAUUGUUUUUUUAAAUGGAAGAUAAAGAUAAUUGUAGAUGAUGGUGAGGACUUAUAUUAUAUUCACAAUUUUUUUUUCUUUUUCAAUUUCUAAUAAUUAUAGUAGAAUCCCUUUUUCUAAAUUUUAAAACUUUCUUGGAAAAGGUGAUACCAUAUAUAGUAUAAUCAAGAACCCUAUAUCAUGUGAAAAAUGAUACUACAAAAAUUAAUGUAAGUGUAUGUGAUACCCAUAGUUAAAUUUACUUUUUUAGAUUUAUUUUAUUUAAUAACGAUCUCUUAUAUAAUUUUUGUUCAUUGUAUAACUUAUACCUUAUAAAGACCAUGUGGUCCAUUAACACAAUUAUUAUUCAAAACCUUUAACCUGUUAUUAGGUAAGUUUUACAACUUGGUCAUGUCAAUCACUUUUACAAAUUAAUUUGAUGUUUUAUUUUUCAAAUAUUAAAAUGAUUGAAAAUAUACUGCAAUAGUAUCUUAUGCAAUAAACCUCAUUUGAAUUUUUGUAUACUUCUAUCAAUGAUUUUGUAUAUGAAAGUUAUUCUAUGGUAGACUUAAAUGCAAAACUUAAAAAUAAAAAAUAAAAAAUUGUUCAUACCAAUCACCUUUCCCCGUAUAUUAACAAACAUCUACAUAUAUAUAUAUAUAUAUAUAUAUAUAGGAAACGGGAAUGGAGGAGGGAGACUAUUAGGCUCACUAUGAAGCUCUUGUAGCUUUGUAGGUUUGCAGGUGAAUCAUUAUUUUAGAAGGUGAUGUCAAAGAUAGAGAGAAGGAGGUGAUGUUGAUGUAAAUGAUGGAAAGAGAGUUGACAUAAAUGAGAGAGAGAAAGAGGAAGACAAAUAGGGGAAACUAAUUUUUAUUUUAUCAAUACAAGUAAAUAUUACUCAAGAUCCAAAAAAAAAAUUCAAAAAUAAUAAAAUUUGAUGAUUUGAAAAUUGUAAUUUAUACAUCUAUAUUUAUUACUUUCCUCAUUUGUCUUAUGUUGGGAUGGUUAAGUUAAAAGAAAGGUCAUGUUGAAUAUAAAAUGCAUGCUCAAAAUUGUUAAAUUAUAUAUAAUGAUCAUGUCUAUAUCUUUAAAUAAAUAUAAUAAUCUAAUUAUAAUUUUUUAGAAAUUUUAUAAAAAGAUUACAAAAUUUAUAUAAGAAUUUUGGAAUCCUCAAACUUGAUAUUUUUUGAAAUCUAGUUGGACUUGAAGAAGAUUAUUUUAUAUUUUUAUUUUUCAAUGUCCAUCCAAAAGUUAAUUAAGAAGUCAAAUAUCUUCACUAAUUUUCCCUUCUAAUUUCUUUUUUUAGAAUUUGUAUUUUACAAUUAAUAACACUUAUACUAUAUAACAUUAUUAUAACCAUUUAUAAUUACUAAGUACAUAUAGGGCAUAAUAAAGGAAAGUGACAUAAAAACAAUAUAUAUAUAUAUAUAUAUAUAUAAGAAAACUAUUAAAACACACAAUUUCGUGAUAUGAAAAGGAAAAAAAAAAGCAUAAAAAUAUUCAUAUGACAUAUUAGAAAAUGAUAGUCCAAUUUAACUAAAAACUAUUGUAAUAUCAUUUUUAGAUGUAGUUUAGGUAAUAUCAAAACUAUAGGAUCACAUUGGCAUAUGUUCCAUGUUGUAGUAUUAGCUAAUGAAUUUUAAUUUGCAAUCAGUUUUUUUCACUCAUGAUAAUCUUCUAUUUUUCUAUUUUAAUUAUUAGUAACAAUAUAUUUCAAAAAUCAAUUUUUUUAGUGAGUUAUAAUUAAAGUGUAAAAGUAAUUUUGAAUUUUGAUGGUAAACUAAAAUUUUAUAAUUUUACAAGAGACAUUCAUAUUAAUAAUAAUAAUAAUAAUAAUAAUAAUAAUAAUAAUAGUUAAUUGAAAUUAAUAUUCUUCAAUUACUCUUAGACUUUAAUUUAAUUUAAUUAUUUUUAUUUAUAAAGUUAUAAUCCUAUUUUGAUUAUAAAAUAAUAACUAAUAUUAUUACAAUAUGCAUUUGUGAAAAACUAAGUUUGAGAUAAGGAAUCUUUAUGCUUUAGCUGUAUAAAAUAAAUACUCAAAUGUAAAAGGAAAUAUAUUUAUAUAUAUUUUGAGAGGAUGUGAGUAUCAAAGUGGGUCAGUGUUCAUCAAUUACAAGAAAUAAAAUAUAGCUUUUGGAGAGUUAGUGGUGCAACACUAAGUAAGAGAAGUGGCUUUUUUUUCCCUGUCCUUUCAUUCAUUAUGAGAACUACAAGUCUAUAUGCCUAGAGAAGUGUUUGUUUAGAGCAUAAUGAUGUUGUGAACGGGAGACAAACAAUCAAACCUUUUGGUGUUUGCUUGAAAGGAAGGGUUUGGAUUUACCAACUCGCAACUUGGAAGUUGGAACUAGGUUCAGUUGUUGAAACCGAGGGCUCAGGAAACUUCCACUGCGUACAACAAUUAAACAAGUCUAUUCAGAAUUUAUAAAAAUUUUCAAUCAAAAAAAAAAAAAAAACAGUCCUUUAAUUAAGCAUGUAGUACAUACCCAUAUAAUUCAUGAUUUUUAAUUUGUUUGUUUAAUAAUAUUUUUAAUUACUGUUACUUUUUUUUUUAAUUUAAAUAUAAGUUAGAUUGCAUUUUAGUCCUCAUAUGAAUUCUCAUCACCAGUACACUUCAAAAGGCGUUGUGAUUUAUUAAGAAUAAAAUAUGAAUGAUUUAAAAGACUACCAACUUCUCAAGUUUAUAAUAUUUAUGGAGUUUGUGGGAGCAUGAAGACAUCAAUGUAGAAGAGAAGGCAAGACACAUCCAUAUCAACAGGAGCUUAGUUGCAAGCGUCGUCCAAUGCUUCAAUCAGGCAGAUUGAGCUUUUGUGUACACACUUGUCAGUAGCCUAGAGGAAAAGGACCCUACACUUUGCACUCUUCCAAAUCUUUCCUCAUGUUUUUUUUUUUUUUUCAAAUUUACACGUUCCAAUCCAUUCUUUUCACUAUAUUAUAAAAUCUUUAUUAUAAAAUAAAUAUUUUUUUUAGACUCUCUCUCUUCAUAGCUAUUCAUUUCCCUACCUACUAAUUUCCUUACCAAAAAAUAGGGGACUGGUUUUGGGGGAAAUUCUCAUGUGUUUCUUUUGAGAGGUAGGUCUGAAAGGAUUUUUUAGGGAGCUUUCAGAAAAACAAAUGGGGUGAAAGAGAAGAAAGAAUAGAGAAAGAAAGAGACUUUGGGAGAAGGAGUCUGGACUGGUUUUUGGACAGCUUUGGGGAGGGGGUUUUCUUUUGGGAACUGUGGAGAGCGAGAGAGGUCUGGACUGGUUUUUUGGAGAUAGAGAGAGCAAAAGAAGCCGAGAGAGGAGGCAAGAAGCAAAGAAGAUAGGAUAAUGCUCUCAGGUAUAACCAUUAUAGCUCCCUACUCGUUUCAUUUUAUGAUACUACUCUUGAUCCUUUUACUGCAAUUAUUUUGAAUGUUGCCCUCUGCCUACCUUUUUGGAUCCUCUAGAAUGUUGUUCAUUUUUUAUUUUUUAGUUUUUGAGGUGAAGAGGAUUUCGAAGAUAGAGCCAAAAGAGGAGACUUACGGACUGGCAGUAGGUGGUGAGAAGAUCUAGAGAUUUCUCUCUUUUUUGAGGAGAUUUAAAAAUAACAAUGCUUUGACAUGAAUAUUGCAAAGGUCAUGAAUAAGGUUAAAUUCGUAGGAUUUUUGGGUUUAAUUGACAGGGCACAAUGGACUUAAUUAUAUAUGUUCAAUUUGGAAUCCAUUUUAUGUGUUUCUCAUGGAAAAUGAAUGUGGUGCAAGAGACUCUAAUUUGAUAAUUUUUAAGAAUUUUCUUAUAUUACAAAAGUUUCUAAAUAUUUACAGUAGAUAUCUUUGUUGUGCAUGUUGUAUAAUUUUAACCUCUUCUUAUCAAUUUUCAUUCAUUGAUAUAAAGAAUAUUGGUUAUCUUAAAGAUCAAUUCCAUAUGCAUAAUUAAAAUUAACAGCUAGUUUCUUGAUCUUCUAACAAUUUUCCUCUCCAUUUGUUAUGGUGUUGUCUUGUAGACUUGUUGAGUGGUUGUUGAGUAGCUAAUAUUUCUUUGCAUUAAGGUUAGUAAUAAUUUGGGCUUCACUUCUUCUUAUAUUUGAUUAUAUGCUUGAUAAUUCAAUUUGUGAAGUAUGUUUUCCUCUUUUUUGUUAUGCAUCAAAUUAGUUGAUUGAUCAAAAUAUUUUAUUUCUUUAUAUGAAUCUAGAAAUACAUACUUAAAUUUUAAAAAUAUUUCUAAUAGUGAUAGCAUGUUAAUAUUCAUAUAUGUAGUAUUUAUUUUCAAUUUUUUCCCUUAUAUAGGAAAUACUUAUUAUGUUUUACUAAAUUAUUUAUGAUAUUAAAGGUUCAAUUAAUUUAGCAUAUUAUUAUGAUUAGAAAAUUGUGCUAAGAACAAAAAAAGGGCUAUGUGUCACAUACUACCUUGAGGUUGUUGAAUCAUUUUUUUAUUUAUGAAAUAUAAAGGACAUUCUCUCUUAUCUAUAUGGUUAUAAUGCAUCAGUUUUCUUGCUGAGUUUCCUAGUUAAUCCGAAUCACUAAAUUGCCGCACAAAUGCUGAUUCGCAACAUGUGACCUUAUUUAAAAAAUCUUGCAAAUUAUAUGAUUUGUUUUAGAAGCCUUCUUNNNNNNNNNNNNNNNNNNNNNNNNNNNNNNNNNNNNNNNNNNNNNNNNNNNNNNNNNNNNNNNNNNNNNNNNNNNNNNNNNNNNNNNNNNNNNNNNNNNNUCCUAGUUAAUCCGAAUCACUAAAUUGCCGCACAAAUGCUGAUUCGCAACAUGUGACCUUAUUUAAAAAAUCUUGCAAAUUAUAUGAUUUGUUUUAGAAGCCUUCUUGAACACAUGCACAUGUACCUGAUUUACAAAAAAAGUUAAAGAAGUAAAUUUCUCAUUUUUAUUCUUCAUAUAUGCAUGCAUAAAACCUUAGACUUCCGUUCAAGUAUCUUUGUGUGACAAAUUUUUUUCUUAUUACAUGUUAGAGACAUUGAAGUUGUCAAAGAGUGAAAAUGGUCCUAUCAAUGAAGUAGUUUCAAAUUGACAACUUCUUAAUUUGUCUAACAUGUGAUUAAAAUUUUGUCUACAAAUUAUGCUUGAAUUGUCCGGUUGGACAGUAUAGGAUAACAUAAUGUCUAUGAAAUCACCCUCAUAUGCUUCGCUCAUUUCUUAAAAUUUCGAUAACAUUUCCUUUUGUUCUCUGGGUGCAUAUUUGGACAAGGUUAAAUAAUGUCUUGGCCAUUUCGUGUACUUGGAGAACUAUGGGGAAAUGCUGUCAAAAUUUUGUUGAAGUAUAACGAAGCUUAUUAGUGGUUGAGUCAUAGGGAUUAUGCAUUCCUAUAUGGAAUAGGAACUACCACCUAAAUUAGGAAGUUGGAUAUAUUAGAAUGCAUAAGACACUCAUCAUAUGUUGAUAUGCUCAAAUUACUUUUUUUUUUUUUUUUUUUGUGUAUUCUUAAAUCAUCAUGAUCCAUUUUUAUUAUAAUUUUUAUUUAUAAGGUUUAUGUCUUAGGUAGAAAAUUUAUAAACUUAUUUUUUUUAUUCUAAUAUGAACCUUAAGAUUCUCUCUUUGUUGUUGAGAUUUUAACUUUAAGAAUAAGAUUCUAGAAGGCCUACAACACAAAGUUAAGAUUCAAUGUAAUUUGUUUUAGAAGCUUUUUGUAACUAUAUUGGUAUAAAUUUUAACUUUUUUUUUCUCUACAAUUUUGAUCUUUCAUAGUCAUACCUUUAGAGAAAAUUACUAACAUUGGAAUGUGAAUUAUAACUUAUAUCUUCCUUCAAUUUAAUGUUAGGUAGAAUAAUAAGUACUUUAAUAUUGUCUAUAGGUGUUUNNNNNNNNNNNNNNNNNNNNNNNNNNNNNNNNNNNNNNNNNNNNNNNNNNNNNNNNNNNNNNNNNNNNNNNNNNNNNNNNNNNNNNNNNNNNNNNNNNNNNNNNNNNNNNNNNNNNNNNNNNNNNNNNNNNNNNNNNNNNNNNNNNNNNNNNNNNNNNNNNNNNNNNNNNNNNNNNNNNNNNNNNNNNNNNNNNNNNNNNNNNNNNNNNNNNNNNNNNNNNNNNNNNNNNNNNNNNNNNNNNNNNNNNNNNNNNNNNNNNNNNNNNNNNNNNNNNNNNNNNNNNNNNNNNNNNNNNNNNNNNNNNNNNNNNNNNNNNNNNNNNNNNNNNNNNNNNNNNNNNNNNNNNNNNNNNNNNNNNNNNNNNNNNNNNNNNNNNNNNNNNNNNNNNNNNNNNNNNNNNNNNNNNNNNNNNNNNNNNNNNNNNNNNNNNNNNNNNNNNNNNNNNNNNNNNNNNNNNNNNNNNNNNNNNNNNNNNNNNNNNNNNNNNNNNNNNNNNNNNNNNNNNNNNNNNNNNNNNNNNNNNNNNNNNNNNNNNNNNNNNNNNNNNNNNNNNNNNNNNNNNNNNNNNNNNNNNNNNNNNNNNNNNNNNNNNNNNNNNNNNNNNNNNNNNNNNNNNNNNNNNNNNNNNNNNNNNNNNNNNNNNNNNNNNNNNNNNNNNNNNNNNNNNNNNNNNNNNNNNNNNNNNNNNNNNNNNNNNNNNNNNNNNNNNNNNNNNNNNNNNNNNNNNNNNNNNNNNNNNNNNNNNNNNNNNNNNNNNNNNNNNNNNNNNNNNNNNNNNNNNNNNNNNNNNNNNNNNNNNNNNNNNNNNNNNNNNNNNNNNNNNNNNNNNNNNNNNNNNNNNNNNNNNNNNNNNNNNNNNNNNNNNNNNNNNNNNNNNNNNNNNNNNNNNNNNNNNNNNNNNNNNNNNNNNNNNNNNNNNNNNNNNNNNNNNNNNNNNNNNNNNNNNNNNNNNNNNNNNNNNNNNNNNNNNNNNNNNNNNNNNNNNNNNNNNNNNNNNNNNNNNNNNNNNNNNNNNNNNNNNNNNNNNNNNNNNNNNNNNNNNNNNNNNNNNNNNNNNNNNNNNNNNNNNNNNNNNNNNNNNNNNNNNNNNNNNNNNNNNNNNNNNNNNNNNNNNNNNNNNNNNNNNNNNNNNNNNNNNNNNNNNNNNNNNNNNNNNNNNNNNNNNNNNNNNNNNNNNNNNNNNNNNNNNNNNNNNNNNNNNNNNNNNNNNNNNNNNNNNNNNNNNNNNNNNNNNNNNNNNNNNNNNNNNNNNNNNNNNNNNNNNNNNNNNNNNNNNNNNNNNNNNNNNNNNNNNNNNNNNNNNNNNNNNNNNNNNNNNNNNNNNNNNNNNNNNNNNNNNNNNNNNNNNNNNNNNNNNNNNNNNNNNNNNNNNNNNNNNNNNNNNNNNNNNNNNNNNNNNNNNNNNNNNNNNNNNNNNNNNNNNNNNNNNNNNNNNNNNNNNNNNNNNNNNNNNNNNNNNNNNNNNNNNNNNNNNNNNNNNNNNNNNNNNNNNNNNNNNNNNNNNNNNNNNNNNNNNNNNNNNNNNNNNNNNNNNNNNNNNNNNNNNNNNNNNNNNNNNNNNNNNNNNNNNNNNNNNNNNNNNNNNNNNNNNNNNNNNNNNNNNNNNNNNNNNNNNNNNNNNNNNNNNNNNNNNNNNNNNNNNNNNNNNNNNNNNNNNNNNNNNNNNNNNNNNNNNNNNNNNNNNNNNNNNNNNNNNNNNNNNNNNNNNNNNNNNNNNNNNNNNNNNNNNNNNNNNNNNNNNNNNNNNNNNNNNNNNNNNNNNNNNNNNNNNNNNNNNNNNNNNNNNNNNNNNNNNNNNNNNNNNNNNNNNNNNNNNNNNNNNNNNNNNNNNNNNNNNNNNNNNNNNNNNNNNNNNNNNNNNNNNNNNNNNNNNNNNNNNNNNNNNNNNNNNNNNNNNNNNNNNNNNNNNNNNNNNNNNNNNNNNNNNNNNNNNNNNNNNNNNNNNNNNNNNNNNNNNNNNNNNNNNNNNNNNNNNNNNNNNNNNNNNNNNNNNNNNNNNNNNNNNNNNNNNNNNNNNNNNNNNNNNNNNNNNNNNNNNNNNNNNNNNNNNNNNNNNNNNNNNNNNNNNNNNNNNNNNNNNNNNNNNNNNNNNNNNNNNNNNNNNNNNNNNNNNNNNNNNNNNNNNNNNNNNNNNNNNNNNNNNNNNNNNNNNNNNNNNNNNNNNNNNNNNNNNNNNNNNNNNNNNNNNNNNNNNNNNNNNNNNNNNNNNNNNNNNNNNNNNNNNNNNNNNNNNNNNNNNNNNNNNNNNNNNNNNNNNNNNNNNNNNNNNNNNNNNNNNNNNNNNNNNNNNNNNNNNNNNNNNNNNNNNNNNNNNNNNNNNNNNNNNNNNNNNNNNNNNNNNNNNNNNNNNNNNNNNNNNNNNNNNNNNNNNNNNNNNNNNNNNNNNNNNNNNNNNNNNNNNNNNNNNNNNNNNNNNNNNNNNNNNNNNNNNNNNNNNNNNNNNNNNNNNNNNNNNNNNNNNNNNNNNNNNNNNNNNNNNNNNNNNNNNNNNNNNNNNNNNNNNNNNNNNNNNNNNNNNNNNNNNNNNNNNNNNNNNNNNNNNNNNNNNNNNNNNNNNNNNNNNNNNNNNNNNNNNNNNNNNNNNNNNNNNNNNNNNNNNNNNNNNNNNNNNNNNNNNNNNNNNNNNNNNNNNNNNNNNNNNNNNNNNNNNNNNNNNNNNNNNNNNNNNNNNNNNNNNNNNNNNNNNNNNNNNNNNNNNNNNNNNNNNNNNNNNNNNNNNNNNNNNNNNNNNNNNNNNNNNNNNNNNNNNNNNNNNNNNNNNNNNNNNNNNNNNNNNNNNNNNNNNNNNNNNNNNNNNNNNNNNNNNNNNNNNNNNNNNNNNNNNNNNNNNNNNNNNNNNNNNNNNNNNNNNNNNNNNNNNNNNNNNNNNNNNNNNNNNNNNNNNNNNNNNNNNNNNNNNNNNNNNNNNNNNNNNNNNNNNNNNNNNNNNNNNNNNNNNNNNNNNNNNNNNNNNNNNNNNNNNNNNNNNNNNNNNNNNNNNNNNNNNNNNNNNNNNNNNNNNNNNNNNNNNNNNNNNNNNNNNNNNNNNNNNNNNNNNNNNNNNNNNNNNNNNNNNNNNNNNNNNNNNNNNNNNNNNNNNNNNNNNNNNNNNNNNNNNNNNNNNNNNNNNNNNNNNNNNNNNNNNNNNNNNNNNNNNNNNNNNNNNNNNNNNNNNNNNNNNNNNNNNNNNNNNNNNNNNNNNNNNNNNNNNNNNNNNNNNNNNNNNNNNNNNNNNNNNNNNNNNNNNNNNNNNNNNNNNNNNNNNNNNNNNNNNNNNNNNNNNNNNNNNNNNNNNNNNNNNNNNNNNNNNNNNNNNNNNNNNNNNNNNNNNNNNNNNNNNNNNNNNNNNNNNNNNNNNNNNNNNNNNNNNNNNNNNNNNNNNNNNNNNNNNNNNNNNNNNNNNNNNNNNNNNNNNNNNNNNNNNNNNNNNNNNNNNNNNNNNNNNNNNNNNNNNNNNNNNNNNNNNNNNNNNNNNNNNNNNNNNNNNNNNNNNNNNNNNNNNNNNNNNNNNNNNNNNNNNNNNNNNNNNNNNNNNNNNNNNNNNNNNNNNNNNNNNNNNNNNNNNNNNNNNNNNNNNNNNNNNNNNNNNNNNNNNNNNNNNNNNNNNNNNNNNNNNNNNNNNNNNNNNNNNNNNNNNNNNNNNNNNNNNNNNNNNNNNNNNNNNNNNNNNNNNNNNNNNNNNNNNNNNNNNNNNNNNNNNNNNNNNNNNNNNNNNNNNNNNNNNNNNNNNNNNNNNNNNNNNNNNNNNNNNNNNNNNNNNNNNNNNNNNNNNNNNNNNNNNNNNNNNNNNNNNNNNNNNNNNNNNNNNNNNNNNNNNNNNNNNNNNNNNNNNNNNNNNNNNNNNNNNNNNNNNNNNNNNNNNNNNNNNNNNNNNNNNNNNNNNNNNNNNNNNNNNNNNNNNNNNNNNNNNNNNNNNNNNNNNNNNNNNNNNNNNNNNNNNNNNNNNNNNNNNNNNNNNNNNNNNNNNNNNNNNNNNNNNNNNNNNNNNNNNNNNNNNNNNNNNNNNNNNNNNNNNNNNNNNNNNNNNNNNNNNNNNNNNNNNNNNNNNNNNNNNNNNNNNNNNNNNNNNNNNNNNNNNNNNNNNNNNNNNNNNNNNNNNNNNNNNNNNNNNNNNNNNNNNNNNNNNNNNNNNNNNNNNNNNNNNNNNNNNNNNNNNNNNNNNNNNNNNNNNNNNNNNNNNNNNNNNNNNNNNNNNNNNNNNNNNNNNNNNNNNNNNNNNNNNNNNNNNNNNNNNNNNNNNNNNNNNNNNNNNNNNNNNNNNNNNNNNNNNNNNNNNNNNNNNNNNNNNNNNNNNNNNNNNNNNNNNNNNNNNNNNNNNNNNNNNNNNNNNNNNNNNNNNNNNNNNNNNNNNNNNNNNNNNNNNNNNNNNNNNNNNNNNNNNNNNNNNNNNNNNNNNNNNNNNNNNNNNNNNNNNNNNNNNNNNNNNNNNNNNNNNNNNNNNNNNNNNNNNNNNNNNNNNNNNNNNNNNNNNNNNNNNNNNNNNNNNNNNNNNNNNNNNNNNNNNNNNNNNNNNNNNNNNNNNNNNNNNNNNNNNNNNNNNNNNNNNNNNNNNNNNNNNNNNNNNNNNNNNNNNNNNNNNNNNNNNNNNNNNNNNNNNNNNNNNNNNNNNNNNNNNNNNNNNNNNNNNNNNNNNNNNNNNNNNNNNNNNNNNNNNNNNNNNNNNNNNNNNNNNNNNNNNNNNNNNNNNNNNNNNNNNNNNNNNNNNNNNNNNNNNNNNNNNNNNNNNNNNNNNNNNNNNNNNNNNNNNNNNNNNNNNNNNNNNNNNNNNNNNNNNNNNNNNNNNNNNNNNNNNNNNNNNNNNNNNNNNNNNNNNNNNNNNNNNNNNNNNNNNNNNNNNNNNNNNNNNNNNNNNNNNNNNNNNNNNNNNNNNNNNNNNNNNNNNNNNNNNNNNNNNNNNNNNNNNNNNNNNNNNNNNNNNNNNNNNNNNNNNNNNNNNNNNNNNNNNNNNNNNNNNNNNNNNNNNNNNNNNNNNNNNNNNNNNNNNNNNNNNNNNNNNNNNNNNNNNNNNNNNNNNNNNNNNNNNNNNNNNNNNNNNNNNNNNNNNNNNNNNNNNNNNNNNNNNNNNNNNNNNNNNNNNNNNNNNNNNNNNNNNNNNNNNNNNNNNNNNNNNNNNNNNNNNNNNNNNNNNNNNNNNNNNNNNNNNNNNNNNNNNNNNNNNNNNNNNNNNNNNNNNNNNNNNNNNNNNNNNNNNNNNNNNNNNNNNNNNNNNNNNNNNNNNNNNNNNNNNNNNNNNNNNNNNNNNNNNNNNNNNNNNNNNNNNNNNNNNNNNNNNNNNNNNNNNNNNNNNNNNNNNNNNNNNNNNNNNNNNNNNNNNNNNNNNNNNNNNNNNNNNNNNNNNNNNNNNNNNNNNNNNNNNNNNNNNNNNNNNNNNNNNNNNNNNNNNNNNNNNNNNNNNNNNNNNNNNNNNNNNNNNNNNNNNNNNNNNNNNNNNNNNNNNNNNNNNNNNNNNNNNNNNNNNNNNNNNNNNNNNNNNNNNNNNNNNNNNNNNNNNNNNNNNNNNNNNNNNNNNNNNNNNNNNNNNNNNNNNNNNNNNNNNNNNNNNNNNNNNNNNNNNNNNNNNNNNNNNNNNNNNNNNNNNNNNNNNNNNNNNNNNNNNNNNNNNNNNNNNNNNNNNNNNNNNNNNNNNNNNNNNNNNNNNNNNNNNNNNNNNNNNNNNNNNNNNNNNNNNNNNNNNNNNNNNNNNNNNNNNNNNNNNNNNNNNNNNNNNNNNNNNNNNNNNNNNNNNNNNNNNNNNNNNNNNNNNNNNNNNNNNNNNNNNNNNNNNNNNNNNNNNNNNNNNNNNNNNNNNNNNNNNNNNNNNNNNNNNNNNNNNNNNNNNNNNNNNNNNNNNNNNNNNNNNNNNNNNNNNNNNNNNNNNNNNNNNNNNNNNNNNNNNNNNNNNNNNNNNNNNNNNNNNNNNNNNNNNNNNNNNNNNNNNNNNNNNNNNNNNNNNNNNNNNNNNNNNNNNNNNNNNNNNNNNNNNNNNNNNNNNNNNNNNNNNNNNNNNNNNNNNNNNNNNNNNNNNNNNNNNNNNNNNNNNNNNNNNNNNNNNNNNNNNNNNNNNNNNNNNNNNNNNNNNNNNNNNNNNNNNNNNNNNNNNNNNNNNNNNNNNNNNNNNNNNNNNNNNNNNNNNNNNNNNNNNNNNNNNNNNNNNNNNNNNNNNNNNNNNNNNNNNNNNNNNNNNNNNNNNNNNNNNNNNNNNNNNNNNNNNNNNNNNNNNNNNNNNNNNNNNNNNNNNNNNNNNNNNNNNNNNNNNNNNNNNNNNNNNNNNNNNNNNNNNNNNNNNNNNNNNNNNNNNNNNNNNNNNNNNNNNNNNNNNNNNNNNNNNNNNNNNNNNNNNNNNNNNNNNNNNNNNNNNNNNNNNNNNNNNNNNNNNNNNNNNNNNNNNNNNNNNNNNNNNNNNNNNNNNNNNNNNNNNNNNNNNNNNNNNNNNNNNNNNNNNNNNNNNNNNNNNNNNNNNNNNNNNNNNNNNNNNNNNNNNNNNNNNNNNNNNNNNNNNNNNNNNNNNNNNNNNNNNNNNNNNNNNNNNNNNNNNNNNNNNNNNNNNNNNNNNNNNNNNNNNNNNNNNNNNNNNNNNNNNNNNNNNNNNNNNNNNNNNNNNNNNNNNNNNNNNNNNNNNNNNNNNNNNNNNNNNNNNNNNNNNNNNNNNNNNNNNNNNNNNNNNNNNNNNNNNNNNNNNNNNNNNNNNNNNNNNNNNNNNNNNNNNNNNNNNNNNNNNNNNNNNNNNNNNNNNNNNNNNNNNNNNNNNNNNNNNNNNNNNNNNNNNNNNNNNNNNNNNNNNNNNNNNNNNNNNNNNNNNNNNNNNNNNNNNNNNNNNNNNNNNNNNNNNNNNNNNNNNNNNNNNNNNNNNNNNNNNNNNNNNNNNNNNNNNNNNNNNNNNNNNNNNNNNNNNNNNNNNNNNNNNNNNNNNNNNNNNNNNNNNNNNNNNNNNNNNNNNNNNNNNNNNNNNNNNNNNNNNNNNNNNNNNNNNNNNNNNNNNNNNNNNNNNNNNNNNNNNNNNNNNNNNNNNNNNNNNNNNNNNNNNNNNNNNNNNNNNNNNNNNNNNNNNNNNNNNNNNNNNNNNNNNNNNNNNNNNNNNNNNNNNNNNNNNNNNNNNNNNNNNNNNNNNNNNNNNNNNNNNNNNNNNNNNNNNNNNNNNNNNNNNNNNNNNNNNNNNNNNNNNNNNNNNNNNNNNNNNNNNNNNNNNNNNNNNNNNNNNNNNNNNNNNNNNNNNNNNNNNNNNNNNNNNNNNNNNNNNNNNNNNNNNNNNNNNNNNNNNNNNNNNNNNNNNNNNNNNNNNNNNNNNNNNNNNNNNNNNNNNNNNNNNNNNNNNNNNNNNNNNNNNNNNNNNNNNNNNNNNNNNNNNNNNNNNNNNNNNNNNNNNNNNNNNNNNNNNNNNNNNNNNNNNNNNNNNNNNNNNNNNNNNNNNNNNNNNNNNNNNNNNNNNNNNNNNNNNNNNNNNNNNNNNNNNNNNNNNNNNNNNNNNNNNNNNNNNNNNNNNNNNNNNNNNNNNNNNNNNNNNNNNNNNNNNNNNNNNNNNNNNNNNNNNNNNNNNNNNNNNNNNNNNNNNNNNNNNNNNNNNNNNNNNNNNNNNNNNNNNNNNNNNNNNNNNNNNNNNNNNNNNNNNNNNNNNNNNNNNNNNNNNNNNNNNNNNNNNNNNNNNNNNNNNNNNNNNNNNNNNNNNNNNNNNNNNNNNNNNNNNNNNNNNNNNNNNNNNNNNNNNNNNNNNNNNNNNNNNNNNNNNNNNNNNNNNNNNNNNNNNNNNNNNNNNNNNNNNNNNNNNNNNNNNNNNNNNNNNNNNNNNNNNNNNNNNNNNNNNNNNNNNNNNNNNNNNNNNNNNNNNNNNNNNNNNNNNNNNNNNNNNNNNNNNNNNNNNNNNNNNNNNNNNNNNNNNNNNNNNNNNNNNNNNNNNNNNNNNNNNNNNNNNNNNNNNNNNNNNNNNNNNNNNNNNNNNNNNNNNNNNNNNNNNNNNNNNNNNNNNNNNNNNNNNNNNNNNNNNNNNNNNNNNNNNNNNNNNNNNNNNNNNNNNNNNNNNNNNNNNNNNNNNNNNNNNNNNNNNNNNNNNNNNNNNNNNNNNNNNNNNNNNNNNNNNNNNNNNNNNNNNNNNNNNNNNNNNNNNNNNNNNNNNNNNNNNNNNNNNNNNNNNNNNNNNNNNNNNNNNNNNNNNNNNNNNNNNNNNNNNNNNNNNNNNNNNNNNNNNNNNNNNNNNNNNNNNNNNNNNNNNNNNNNNNNNNNNNNNNNNNNNNNNNNNNNNNNNNNNNNNNNNNNNNNNNNNNNNNNNNNNNNNNNNNNNNNNNNNNNNNNNNNNNNNNNNNNNNNNNNNNNNNNNNNNNNNNNNNNNNNNNNNNNNNNNNNNNNNNNNNNNNNNNNNNNNNNNNNNNNNNNNNNNNNNNNNNNNNNNNNNNNNNNNNNNNNNNNNNNNNNNNNNNNNNNNNNNNNNNNNNNNNNNNNNNNNNNNNNNNNNNNNNNNNNNNNNNNNNNNNNNNNNNNNNNNNNNNNNNNNNNNNNNNNNNNNNNNNNNNNNNNNNNNNNNNNNNNNNNNNNNNNNNNNNNNNNNNNNNNNNNNNNNNNNNNNNNNNNNNNNNNNNNNNNNNNNNNNNNNNNNNNNNNNNNNNNNNNNNNNNNNNNNNNNNNNNNNNNNNNNNNNNNNNNNNNNNNNNNNNNNNNNNNNNNNNNNNNNNNNNNNNNNNNNNNNNNNNNNNNNNNNNNNNNNNNNNNNNNNNNNNNNNNNNNNNNNNNNNNNNNNNNNNNNNNNNNNNNNNNNNNNNNNNNNNNNNNNNNNNNNNNNNNNNNNNNNNNNNNNNNNNNNNNNNNNNNNNNNNNNNNNNNNNNNNNNNNNNNNNNNNNNNNNNNNNNNNNNNNNNNNNNNNNNNNNNNNNNNNNNNNNNNNNNNNNNNNNNNNNNNNNNNNNNNNNNNNNNNNNNNNNNNNNNNNNNNNNNNNNNNNNNNNNNNNNNNNNNNNNNNNNNNNNNNNNNNNNNNNNNNNNNNNNNNNNNNNNNNNNNNNNNNNNNNNNNNNNNNNNNNNNNNNNNNNNNNNNNNNNNNNNNNNNNNNNNNNNNNNNNNNNNNNNNNNNNNNNNNNNNNNNNNNNNNNNNNNNNNNNNNNNNNNNNNNNNNNNNNNNNNNNNNNNNNNNNNNNNNNNNNNNNNNNNNNNNNNNNNNNNNNNNNNNNNNNNNNNNNNNNNNNNNNNNNNNNNNNNNNNNNNNNNNNNNNNNNNNNNNNNNNNNNNNNNNNNNNNNNNNNNNNNNNNNNNNNNNNNNNNNNNNNNNNNNNNNNNNNNNNNNNNNNNNNNNNNNNNNNNNNNNNNNNNNNNNNNNNNNNNNNNNNNNNNNNNNNNNNNNNNNNNNNNNNNNNNNNNNNNNNNNNNNNNNNNNNNNNNNNNNNNNNNNNNNNNNNNNNNNNNNNNNNNNNNNNNNNNNNNNNNNNNNNNNNNNNNNNNNNNNNNNNNNNNNNNNNNNNNNNNNNNNNNNNNNNNNNNNNNNNNNNNNNNNNNNNNNNNNNNNNNNNNNNNNNNNNNNNNNNNNNNNNNNNNNNNNNNNNNNNNNNNNNNNNNNNNNNNNNNNNNNNNNNNNNNNNNNNNNNNNNNNNNNNNNNNNNNNNNNNNNNNNNNNNNNNNNNNNNNNNNNNNNNNNNNNNNNNNNNNNNNNNNNNNNNNNNNNNNNNNNNNNNNNNNNNNNNNNNNNNNNNNNNNNNNNNNNNNNNNNNNNNNNNNNNNNNNNNNNNNNNNNNNNNNNNNNNNNNNNNNNNNNNNNNNNNNNNNNNNNNNNNNNNNNNNNNNNNNNNNNNNNNNNNNNNNNNNNNNNNNNNNNNNNNNNNNNNNNNNNNNNNNNNNNNNNNNNNNNNNNNNNNNNNNNNNNNNNNNNNNNNNNNNNNNNNNNNNNNNNNNNNNNNNNNNNNNNNNNNNNNNNNNNNNNNNNNNNNNNNNNNNNNNNNNNNNNNNNNNNNNNNNNNNNNNNNNNNNNNNNNNNNNNNNNNNNNNNNNNNNNNNNNNNNNNNNNNNNNNNNNNNNNNNNNNNNNNNNNNNNNNNNNNNNNNNNNNNNNNNNNNNNNNNNNNNNNNNNNNNNNNNNNNNNNNNNNNNNNNNNNNNNNNNNNNNNNNNNNNNNNNNNNNNNNNNNNNNNNNNNNNNNNNNNNNNNNNNNNNNNNNNNNNNNNNNNNNNNNNNNNNNNNNNNNNNNNNNNNNNNNNNNNNNNNNNNNNNNNNNNNNNNNNNNNNNNNNNNNNNNNNNNNNNNNNNNNNNNNNNNNNNNNNNNNNNNNNNNNNNNNNNNNNNNNNNNNNNNNNNNNNNNNNNNNNNNNNNNNNNNNNNNNNNNNNNNNNNNNNNNNNNNNNNNNNNNNNNNNNNNNNNNNNNNNNNNNNNNNNNNNNNNNNNNNNNNNNNNNNNNNNNNNNNNNNNNNNNNNNNNNNNNNNNNNNNNNNNNNNNNNNNNNNNNNNNNNNNNNNNNNNNNNNNNNNNNNNNNNNNNNNNNNNNNNNNNNNNNNNNNNNNNNNNNNNNNNNNNNNNNNNNNNNNNNNNNNNNNNNNNNNNNNNNNNNNNNNNNNNNNNNNNNNNNNNNNNNNNNNNNNNNNNNNNNNNNNNNNNNNNNNNNNNNNNNNNNNNNNNNNNNNNNNNNNNNNNNNNNNNNNNNNNNNNNNNNNNNNNNNNNNNNNNNNNNNNNNNNNNNNNNNNNNNNNNNNNNNNNNNNNNNNNNNNNNNNNNNNNNNNNNNNNNNNNNNNNNNNNNNNNNNNNNNNNNNNNNNNNNNNNNNNNNNNNNNNNNNNNNNNNNNNNNNNNNNNNNNNNNNNNNNNNNNNNNNNNNNNNNNNNNNNNNNNNNNNNNNNNNNNNNNNNNNNNNNNNNNNNNNNNNNNNNNNNNNNNNNNNNNNNNNNNNNNNNNNNNNNNNNNNNNNNNNNNNNNNNNNNNNNNNNNNNNNNNNNNNNNNNNNNNNNNNNNNNNNNNNNNNNNNNNNNNNNNNNNNNNNNNNNNNNNNNNNNNNNNNNNNNNNNNNNNNNNNNNNNNNNNNNNNNNNNNNNNNNNNNNNNNNNNNNNNNNNNNNNNNNNNNNNNNNNNNNNNNNNNNNNNNNNNNNNNNNNNNNNNNNNNNNNNNNNNNNNNNNNNNNNNNNNNNNNNNNNNNNNNNNNNNNNNNNNNNNNNNNNNNNNNNNNNNNNNNNNNNNNNNNNNNNNNNNNNNNNNNNNNNNNNNNNNNNNNNNNNNNNNNNNNNNNNNNNNNNNNNNNNNNNNNNNNNNNNNNNNNNNNNNNNNNNNNNNNNNNNNNNNNNNNNNNNNNNNNNNNNNNNNNNNNNNNNNNNNNNNNNNNNNNNNNNNNNNNNNNNNNNNNNNNNNNNNNNNNNNNNNNNNNNNNNNNNNNNNNNNNNNNNNNNNNNNNNNNNNNNNNNNNNNNNNNNNNNNNNNNNNNNNNNNNNNNNNNNNNNNNNNNNNNNNNNNNNNNNNNNNNNNNNNNNNNNNNNNNNNNNNNNNNNNNNNNNNNNNNNNNNNNNNNNNNNNNNNNNNNNNNNNNNNNNNNNNNNNNNNNNNNNNNNNNNNNNNNNNNNNNNNNNNNNNNNNNNNNNNNNNNNNNNNNNNNNNNNNNNNNNNNNNNNNNNNNNNNNNNNNNNNNNNNNNNNNNNNNNNNNNNNNNNNNNNNNNNNNNNNNNNNNNNNNNNNNNNNNNNNNNNNNNNNNNNNNNNNNNNNNNNNNNNNNNNNNNNNNNNNNNNNNNNNNNNNNNNNNNNNNNNNNNNNNNNNNNNNNNNNNNNNNNNNNNNNNNNNNNNNNNNNNNNNNNNNNNNNNNNNNNNNNNNNNNNNNNNNNNNNNNNNNNNNNNNNNNNNNNNNNNNNNNNNNNNNNNNNNNNNNNNNNNNNNNNNNNNNNNNNNNNNNNNNNNNNNNNNNNNNNNNNNNNNNNNNNNNNNNNNNNNNNNNNNNNNNNNNNNNNNNNNNNNNNNNNNNNNNNNNNNNNNNNNNNNNNNNNNNNNNNNNNNNNNNNNNNNNNNNNNNNNNNNNNNNNNNNNNNNNNNNNNNNNNNNNNNNNNNNNNNNNNNNNNNNNNNNNNNNNNNNNNNNNNNNNNNNNNNNNNNNNNNNNNNNNNNNNNNNNNNNNNNNNNNNNNNNNNNNNNNNNNNNNNNNNNNNNNNNNNNNNNNNNNNNNNNNNNNNNNNNNNNNNNNNNNNNNNNNNNNNNNNNNNNNNNNNNNNNNNNNNNNNNNNNNNNNNNNNNNNNNNNNNNNNNNNNNNNNNNNNNNNNNNNNNNNNNNNNNNNNNNNNNNNNNNNNNNNNNNNNNNNNNNNNNNNNNNNNNNNNNNNNNNNNNNNNNNNNNNNNNNNNNNNNNNNNNNNNNNNNNNNNNNNNNNNNNNNNNNNNNNNNNNNNNNNNNNNNNNNNNNNNNNNNNNNNNNNNNNNNNNNNNNNNNNNNNNNNNNNNNNNNNNNNNNNNNNNNNNNNNNNNNNNNNNNNNNNNNNNNNNNNNNNNNNNNNNNNNNNNNNNNNNNNNNNNNNNNNNNNNNNNNNNNNNNNNNNNNNNNNNNNNNNNNNNNNNNNNNNNNNNNNNNNNNNNNNNNNNNNNNNNNNNNNNNNNNNNNNNNNNNNNNNNNNNNNNNNNNNNNNNNNNNNNNNNNNNNNNNNNNNNNNNNNNNNNNNNNNNNNNNNNNNNNNNNNNNNNNNNNNNNNNNNNNNNNNNNNNNNNNNNNNNNNNNNNNNNNNNNNNNNNNNNNNNNNNNNNNNNNNNNNNNNNNNNNNNNNNNNNNNNNNNNNNNNNNNNNNNNNNNNNNNNNNNNNNNNNNNNNNNNNNNNNNNNNNNNNNNNNNNNNNNNNNNNNNNNNNNNNNNNNNNNNNNNNNNNNNNNNNNNNNNNNNNNNNNNNNNNNNNNNNNNNNNNNNNNNNNNNNNNNNNNNNNNNNNNNNNNNNNNNNNNNNNNNNNNNNNNNNNNNNNNNNNNNNNNNNNNNNNNNNNNNNNNNNNNNNNNNNNNNNNNNNNNNNNNNNNNNNNNNNNNNNNNNNNNNNNNNNNNNNNNNNNNNNNNNNNNNNNNNNNNNNNNNNNNNNNNNNNNNNNNNNNNNNNNNNNNNNNNNNNNNNNNNNNNNNNNNNNNNNNNNNNNNNNNNNNNNNNNNNNNNNNNNNNNNNNNNNNNNNNNNNNNNNNNNNNNNNNNNNNNNNNNNNNNNNNNNNNNNNNNNNNNNNNNNNNNNNNNNNNNNNNNNNNNNNNNNNNNNNNNNNNNNNNNNNNNNNNNNNNNNNNNNNNNNNNNNNNNNNNNNNNNNNNNNNNNNNNNNNNNNNNNNNNNNNNNNNNNNNNNNNNNNNNNNNNNNNNNNNNNNNNNNNNNNNNNNNNNNNNNNNNNNNNNNNNNNNNNNNNNNNNNNNNNNNNNNNNNNNNNNNNNNNNNNNNNNNNNNNNNNNNNNNNNNNNNNNNNNNNNNNNNNNNNNNNNNNNNNNNNNNNNNNNNNNNNNNNNNNNNNNNNNNNNNNNNNNNNNNNNNNNNNNNNNNNNNNNNNNNNNNNNNNNNNNNNNNNNNNNNNNNNNNNNNNNNNNNNNNNNNNNNNNNNNNNNNNNNNNNNNNNNNNNNNNNNNNNNNNNNNNNNNNNNNNNNNNNNNNNNNNNNNNNNNNNNNNNNNNNNNNNNNNNNNNNNNNNNNNNNNNNNNNNNNNNNNNNNNNNNNNNNNNNNNNNNNNNNNNNNNNNNNNNNNNNNNNNNNNNNNNNNNNNNNNNNNNNNNNNNNNNNNNNNNNNNNNNNNNNNNNNNNNNNNNNNNNNNNNNNNNNNNNNNNNNNNNNNNNNNNNNNNNNNNNNNNNNNNNNNNNNNNNNNNNNNNNNNNNNNNNNNNNNNNNNNNNNNNNNNNNNNNNNNNNNNNNNNNNNNNNNNNNNNNNNNNNNNNNNNNNNNNNNNNNNNNNNNNNNNNNNNNNNNNNNNNNNNNNNNNNNNNNNNNNNNNNNNNNNNNNNNNNNNNNNNNNNNNNNNNNNNNNNNNNNNNNNNNNNNNNNNNNNNNNNNNNNNNNNNNNNNNNNNNNNNNNNNNNNNNNNNNNNNNNNNNNNNNNNNNNNNNNNNNNNNNNNNNNNNNNNNNNNNNNNNNNNNNNNNNNNNNNNNNNNNNNNNNNNNNNNNNNNNNNNNNNNNNNNNNNNNNNNNNNNNNNNNNNNNNNNNNNNNNNNNNNNNNNNNNNNNNNNNNNNNNNNNNNNNNNNNNNNNNNNNNNNNNNNNNNNNNNNNNNNNNNNNNNNNNNNNNNNNNNNNNNNNNNNNNNNNNNNNNNNNNNNNNNNNNNNNNNNNNNNNNNNNNNNNNNNNNNNNNNNNNNNNNNNNNNNNNNNNNNNNNNNNNNNNNNNNNNNNNNNNNNNNNNNNNNNNNNNNNNNNNNNNNNNNNNNNNNNNNNNNNNNNNNNNNNNNNNNNNNNNNNNNNNNNNNNNNNNNNNNNNNNNNNNNNNNNNNNNNNNNNNNNNNNNNNNNNNNNNNNNNNNNNNNNNNNNNNNNNNNNNNNNNNNNNNNNNNNNNNNNNNNNNNNNNNNNNNNNNNNNNNNNNNNNNNNNNNNNNNNNNNNNNNNNNNNNNNNNNNNNNNNNNNNNNNNNNNNNNNNNNNNNNNNNNNNNNNNNNNNNNNNNNNNNNNNNNNNNNNNNNNNNNNNNNNNNNNNNNNNNNNNNNNNNNNNNNNNNNNNNNNNNNNNNNNNNNNNNNNNNNNNNNNNNNNNNNNNNNNNNNNNNNNNNNNNNNNNNNNNNNNNNNNNNNNNNNNNNNNNNNNNNNNNNNNNNNNNNNNNNNNNNNNNNNNNNNNNNNNNNNNNNNNNNNNNNNNNNNNNNNNNNNNNNNNNNNNNNNNNNNNNNNNNNNNNNNNNNNNNNNNNNNNNNNNNNNNNNNNNNNNNNNNNNNNNNNNNNNNNNNNNNNNNNNNNNNNNNNNNNNNNNNNNNNNNNNNNNNNNNNNNNNNNNNNNNNNNNNNNNNNNNNNNNNNNNNNNNNNNNNNNNNNNNNNNNNNNNNNNNNNNNNNNNNNNNNNNNNNNNNNNNNNNNNNNNNNNNNNNNNNNNNNNNNNNNNNNNNNNNNNNNNNNNNNNNNNNNNNNNNNNNNNNNNNNNNNNNNNNNNNNNNNNNNNNNNNNNNNNNNNNNNNNNNNNNNNNNNNNNNNNNNNNNNNNNNNNNNNNNNNNNNNNNNNNNNNNNNNNNNNNNNNNNNNNNNNNNNNNNNNNNNNNNNNNNNNNNNNNNNNNNNNNNNNNNNNNNNNNNNNNNNNNNNNNNNNNNNNNNNNNNNNNNNNNNNNNNNNNNNNNNNNNNNNNNNNNNNNNNNNNNNNNNNNNNNNNNNNNNNNNNNNNNNNNNNNNNNNNNNNNNNNNNNNNNNNNNNNNNNNNNNNNNNNNNNNNNNNNNNNNNNNNNNNNNNNNNNNNNNNNNNNNNNNNNNNNNNNNNNNNNNNNNNNNNNNNNNNNNNNNNNNNNNNNNNNNNNNNNNNNNNNNNNNNNNNNNNNNNNNNNNNNNNNNNNNNNNNNNNNNNNNNNNNNNNNNNNNNNNNNNNNNNNNNNNNNNNNNNNNNNNNNNNNNNNNNNNNNNNNNNNNNNNNNNNNNNNNNNNNNNNNNNNNNNNNNNNNNNNNNNNNNNNNNNNNNNNNNNNNNNNNNNNNNNNNNNNNNNNNNNNNNNNNNNNNNNNNNNNNNNNNNNNNNNNNNNNNNNNNNNNNNNNNNNNNNNNNNNNNNNNNNNNNNNNNNNNNNNNNNNNNNNNNNNNNNNNNNNNNNNNNNNNNNNNNNNNNNNNNNNNNNNNNNNNNNNNNNNNNNNNNNNNNNNNNNNNNNNNNNNNNNNNNNNNNNNNNNNNNNNNNNNNNNNNNNNNNNNNNNNNNNNNNNNNNNNNNNNNNNNNNNNNNNNNNNNNNNNNNNNNNNNNNNNNNNNNNNNNNNNNNNNNNNNNNNNNNNNNNNNNNNNNNNNNNNNNNNNNNNNNNNNNNNNNNNNNNNNNNNNNNNNNNNNNNNNNNNNNNNNNNNNNNNNNNNNNNNNNNNNNNNNNNNNNNNNNNNNNNNNNNNNNNNNNNNNNNNNNNNNNNNNNNNNNNNNNNNNNNNNNNNNNNNNNNNNNNNNNNNNNNNNNNNNNNNNNNNNNNNNNNNNNNNNNNNNNNNNNNNNNNNNNNNNNNNNNNNNNNNNNNNNNNNNNNNNNNNNNNNNNNNNNNNNNNNNNNNNNNNNNNNNNNNNNNNNNNNNNNNNNNNNNNNNNNNNNNNNNNNNNNNNNNNNNNNNNNNNNNNNNNNNNNNNNNNNNNNNNNNNNNNNNNNNNNNNNNNNNNNNNNNNNNNNNNNNNNNNNNNNNNNNNNNNNNNNNNNNNNNNNNNNNNNNNNNNNNNNNNNNNNNNNNNNNNNNNNNNNNNNNNNNNNNNNNNNNNNNNNNNNNNNNNNNNNNNNNNNNNNNNNNNNNNNNNNNNNNNNNNNNNNNNNNNNNNNNNNNNNNNNNNNNNNNNNNNNNNNNNNNNNNNNNNNNNNNNNNNNNNNNNNNNNNNNNNNNNNNNNNNNNNNNNNNNNNNNNNNNNNNNNNNNNNNNNNNNNNNNNNNNNNNNNNNNNNNNNNNNNNNNNNNNNNNNNNNNNNNNNNNNNNNNNNNNNNNNNNNNNNNNNNNNNNNNNNNNNNNNNNNNNNNNNNNNNNNNNNNNNNNNNNNNNNNNNNNNNNNNNNNNNNNNNNNNNNNNNNNNNNNNNNNNNNNNNNNNNNNNNNNNNNNNNNNNNNNNNNNNNNNNNNNNNNNNNNNNNNNNNNNNNNNNNNNNNNNNNNNNNNNNNNNNNNNNNNNNNNNNNNNNNNNNNNNNNNNNNNNNNNNNNNNNNACAUACCUUUUCAUGUCAUGCAACCAAAUUGUAUAUUUUAUGUUCUAUCUAAUAUUCUAGAUAUGUUUCUUGAUUUGUUUUCCUUUUAGAAUAGGGACUUUGACUUGUAAAUUUUAUAAUAUGCAUUUUUUUCUUUAUACAAAGCAUAUAUAUUUGUUUCUUUCUUUUUAAGUGAGUCAAUUUAUUAUAAAUAUCAUAAUUUUGGCUAGAAAAAUAAUAAUAUAACAAAAAUUAGAUUAUAAUACAACAUUCAAAAAUGACUUACUUUAUAUUACAAUAAACAUAAAAUAAAAAUCUGGUUGUUUAACUUGCAUAAGAGAUCUUUCUUGUGUGACUCAUGAAUUUUGAUCACCAUGGAUGCAAAUUUAUUUGAGAGGUUCUAUAUAGUUUAUUGUUUUUUAAAAUUAUAUUUAUAUAUUUUUUUUUACUCAUUCGUCAUGUUGUUAUCUAGGCACGACACACCGGACAAGCGCCAGGACAAAUAGAACUUUUCAAGUUAAUGCAUUGGACUUCUCAAAAUGGUUGGAUAAACCAAGAAGCAGAGGCUUCUUAUGUAAGUUUUCCUUAUAGAAUCUUCAGCUUGCUUAUUUUUUUAUUUAAAUAUGAUUUUCAAUUUGUUUCUAACUUGUAGCUUAAGUAGGUCACUAUACAAAAUUGGAUUUUCACAUUAUGUAAUUUUUUUAUUUUCAUUUGACUGAGUUUAAAAAUGAUAGAUAAAAAUGAAUUAAAUUGGUCUUAUUAAAUUUUGUGAUUCUAUAUAUAGUAGGAAAAUUUUAUGAAAUUCUAUAGAAAUUCAUAUGAACCUUCCAAAAAUUUGCCAUAGUCAUAAAGAACAUGCUAUGAAACUUAAGCAAAUUGUUUUUUUCAUGAAAUUCUAUAGAAAUUUAUAUGAACCUUCCAAAAAUUUGCCAUAGUCAUAAAGAACAUGCUAUGAAAAAGUUUCAAUUUUUUUUUUCAUGAAAUUCUAUAGAAAUUUAUAUGAAUCUUCCAAAAAUUUGCCAUAAUCAUAAAGAACAUGCUAUGAAACUUAAGCAAAUUGUUAUAUAUAUAUUCUCUUUUUGCAAUAAAUUAUAGUUGAAUUAGCCAAGUUGCCUAUUGAAAAGAUUUUAUUUAAUUAGUUUGUGUUUUACAUUAUUUUACAUUUUUUUUUUUUUGUAUUUGUAGGAAAAAAUGUUAGAAUUGCAAAAGCAACCAGUGCCAGAAGGUGGUCAAGCCUUGAAAGAGGCUGAAAUAUGUGUUCAAGUGUUAGGGUCAAGAUCUGGAUAUAUCAAGGGCUUAGGUCAUGGCCCUCGACCACCCUCAUCCUCAUCGAAAUCUACACAUAAGUCACAUCGAGAGAUAGAAUUGGAGAAUGAGCUUAAAGCAACACGAGAGCUUUUACAAAGUCAAGAGACUCGAAUCCAGCACCAGCAGUCCCAGAUAGCUCAAUUAGCUAGUUUUGUUAGUGAAAUGCGCCAACACAUGCAUAUUCCAGGAUCAAACUCAAGAAGUUCAUCUCCUUCAGAUGAUACACCGCUUAUGGAUUCUUAGUCACACUUCAUGGAUGAUGAUUGACAUUUUCUCCAUUAACACUUGGUUUGGAGUUUUUUUGGACAUUAUCUUUCCUUGACAUGUAUAUAUGGUACUUUUGUUUACUGCAUUAUUUUUUUUGGAUGUUAUCACAUUUUGCAAAUGUGUUAUUUUUGUGGCCACAUUUUGCACAUGUGUUAGUUUUGUUAUCACAUUUUGCAUAUGUGUUAGUUUGCUUGCUACAUAUCAAUCUUUACUAUUUUUUAUUUUUAUUUUUUUAUGUUAUCACAUUCUGCACAUGUGUUUGUUUGCUACUUUUCUUUUACUUUUAGAACUUAUGACAUUUUACAAAUGUGGAUGUCAGUGCUUACUAUUUAUUUAUUUAUUUUGUAUAUGUGAAUAUACCAAAACUCUUUUGCAUUCAAUGGAAUAUUAUCAAUUAUUUAUUAAAGCUUUGUUGUCACAUAAUUUAUUUAUUCAUUAGGAGUUUUUAAUUAUCAAUUAUGUAAUAAAUUAAGUUAUAACAAAAUUUAAUUGUUUAAUUAAGUUUUAUAAUUUAAGUUUAAAUUUAAAUAUUGGAAUAUAUCAAUUGAAUAUAUUAAAAUAUGAUGACAAAAUUAUUAUAUACAUAUAGACAAAAGUUCAUAUGUUUAGAGCCAUUUAUUUAUUUUUUUGUUAAAAUAUGACCUGAACUUCCAACGGGGAAAUAAAGUUUUGUUUCAAAAUCCAUUUGGCAACAAAAUUAUAAUUUUGGUCAUUGUAUGUGUCUAAUUUGGCGACAAUUUAAUUGAUUAUCGAGAAUUUUUAGCAACAAAAUUUUGAACAUUUAACAACAAAUCUUUUCGUCAAAAAAAAUUAUUGGAGACAACAAAAAAAUUAUGUCUCUAUAAACUAUUAGAGGCGAAACAUUAAAUUUGUUGCAAAAACUUUUCGCGACGAGGAUAAGGCGACGUUCAUGAAACAAAAAAAAAUUUGUCGCAAAAAUGUUUUUGCGACAAUAUUAACUUUUUUGCGAUAAAAUAAUUGUGUCGCUAAUAAUCAUAUAUCUUGUAGUGCUUUUUGGUUUGUUUUACAAAUCAUACACAAUGAAUAUUCUUGAAAAAAUUCUAGAUGUAAAAUUUAAAAUCUAUUGUCAUUCAUAUAGAGAAAGAUAAGACCUUAAGCUUUAACAUGUGUCGUAAGACUUUAGAUGAAUAGGAAAAGAUCACUCACGGUUCCUAUAUAUGCUAGCAUUGUUAGUAGCUUAAAGUAUCCAAUGAUGUGUACAUGAACUAAUAUAUAUUAUAUAAUUAGGUUAGUAGCUUCCAAUUAGAUCUAAACCUUGCUUACGAAAAAACAAUGAACUGGACGAUUUCAUACCUCAAAGUCACCAUAGGCUAUAUAAUUUGCUAUUGAGGAUUGAAUUUGGACUUGAUUAGCUACAACAAUGAUAAUUGAGGUAGCAUCCUAAAUGAACCCAAAUCCACAUAUGGUUAUAAUUUUAUAUAUGCUCUAUGAUGUUAGCAUAUAUUGGUGAAAUAGAAAAAAAUCAUGUAUAAUAUUGUCUACCAUGCAUGGAGUUGGGAGUACAUUAGUUGUCGUCUAGGAAAGUGACUAGUUUAUGAUGUUCAUACAUAUUUUUCUCAAUAUUGCUUGUUCUUUUGAGCGUACUACUAUUUAUUGUGAUAGCAUGGAAACUUUAGCCUAUGUCAAAGACCCCCCCCCCCCAAGUAUCAUAGUUGAACCAAACACAUCAAUCUUAAAUAUUAGUUUAUAUGAGACAUGGUUACAUAGGAACAUAUUUCUACUUGAUGCAUGGUUAAAAAUCCCACCCUCACCCCUCCUGUUGACUAAGCUAAUAAGUAAAGAUGUUUAUUAGGGUCAAGUUGAGAGCAUUGGAUUAUGUAGAUCAUGAUUACAUAGGAGUUAAGUUGUGAGCAUUGGAUCAUGUAGAUUAUGAUUACAUAUUAUAUAUUUCAAUUAACCAAUAUAUUUACGAUUUAUUCAUUGUCCAAUCUUGUUUGAUGGUGGCAUUUAAUUAUUUGUUUUACUUUAUCGACAUGCACUUUCAUUACUUUGCACAACUGAAACAUAAUGAGUCCAAACCACUUAGAUAGUGUGUUAGGUCAUUGAUAUUUAUAAUACUCCUUUUUGUAUCCAAUAUGACUUACAUGUUAGUAGCGACCAAGUAUAGAUAGUCCUAUAGUCCACAUUUGUAAUGGAGUCAAUUGCCAAAUCUUGUUAAUGUAGUGCUUGAUUUAGUAAGGAUGUGCAAAACUUGAGUUCUUUGCUUGAUGCAAUUAAACUAAGAUUUGUACGAUAUAGAAGAUCUAAGGUACACUCAUAAUGAAGAUCUCCAUGUUAGCAUGUAUUUUCAUACUUUAUCUUCUUGGCAAUCAAACAAGAAUGAAUGAAUGAAUAUAUUCCUAGCUACUUCCUCAUCCUAUGCGUUAAUCUUAUAGGUCAAUAUAUAGUUAAACUUUUAUGCCCUUGUGAUUUUCAAUCAUAAGUUACAAGUAUGGUGUAGUUUGAAAUAUUUUUCUAGGGGGAUUAACCAUGUUUAACUCAAUGUGAAUAAAUGUGUUUAAGAUAUAACAAGAUGCCUUUUAGGGAUGAAUUACACUGGUUAAGAUGAAAUUUAGUUUAAUACUCUUACACCUUUCUUAUCAAUGUGUUCAAAAGUUUUACAAUCCAUUAGUCAAUAUAAACAGGGAUGACAAUGAUAUAGUUGAGAGAAAUGCAUAAUGUUAUUUUGCCUACUAUGCAUGAGUGGGAGACAAUGGAGUUUCUAUUUCAUGAGAUACUCUUAGUAGGACUUCAUCAACUAAGAACUUGAGAGUAAGUUGCAUACUUAUCAAUUAAGAUUCCUCAUGGGAGGAAAGUUUAGUUAAGAUUCCUCUUGUGAGAGAAGGUUCAUAUUUAGAUUUAGUAAGAAUCUGUAAGAGUUGUUUGUCUUUUUUCAAUUCCAAUUCUAGUCCUUUUGCAUGUUUUCAAUUUAGUUUGUGGCAGUUGUUAAAUACUUCUACUUUAGUUUUUAGCAAUUAUAAUUUUUUAAAGCUUGCUAUUUAGGUUUAGAUUUAUUAUAUGCUUAUUAGAUAUCUUAAUUCCUAUUGUAUUCUCCUUGGUUAAUAAUCUUCCAAUUUGAUUGUGGAGUUCAAAGAUUUUUACCAAAAUAUGGAUCAGGGUUUUCAAAGUUAGGAAAGGUAUUUAAUAGAAUUAAUUUUUGAAUAAGUUUGCAAGCUAAAUCUUUCAAUUGAACCUAAUGAGUUUACAUACUAAAUCUCUCAUUUUCAGCCUUGGUUGUUUCCACUCUUUGCAAUUUAAUUAGUUUUUCUUAAAUAUAUAUAUAUAUAUAAUUCAUUUUUUGUACCUAUAUACUCGAGUUUUUGAGUAAUUAUGAGUUGUAUUGUUAUAUUUAGUAGAAUUUGACAAACUAAUAAUGCUUACCUUUGAACAAUCGAGUCCAAUAGCCCAUUUGUGUGGAUUCAUAGCUAUCAACUUGAUUCUCCAUGCCUCCUCUAUUAGGUUGACCAAGAGAAUGGUUUAAUUUCACAGGAACACCUUAAGAAUAAAAAUGUCAAGAAAAGAGAAGGAAAAUUAUGCUUCGUCUAAUUUGACUGCAAGACUUUUAAAGGAAAAAAACAUAAUAAUAUAACAAUUAUUAUAAUGAAUAUAAUAAAAAGAAAAUUUGUGAUGUUCUUCCCAAUACUCAUAAAACCCCUUUCAAUGAAACUUUGUAAGCUAUACUAAUACAAAAUAAUGGUCCAUAUGGUAAAAGCUCAAUAAAUGAAUGUUUGAUAAAUUAAUAAUCUUACUUAUAAAACAAAAUCUUCUAGUCUUAACUCAGGCCAAUGUACUAAAUUAGUAAUCUUGCUAAAUACAUAAGAUAAAAAUAUUUUCAAAAAUCUUUAAGGGCUCAAGAAAUAUAAACUAAUAAUUGAUGAAGUAUAAACAAAAAUUCAUAGUAUAGCAAAUAGAACUUCAUAAUAUAGUAUUAAGUAAUUUUUUAUUACUUUUAUUUUUCUAAAUUCACUUCUUUUAGAAUUAUCACAUAUUUGAAAUAGCUUGCUCUUUUACAACAUUAAGUUUUGAUGCCACGUCUUUUUUGGGGAGUCUUUUUUUCUUUUAUAAUCAAUAAAUUUUUUUUUUCUUUAGUCUCUUAGGUUUCUAUGUAUCAACUUUUUACCACAUGUAUUAUUUUUAAAUUUAUAAGUCAUACAUGUACUAAUAAUGUACAGUAACAACAUAAUACUCUUCAUCAAUUAAUAAAUAUUCAUUUAUCUAUAAAUCAAUAACCUCGCUAAGAUCAUAAUUUUUCUUGGUCAUAAGAGUAUUAGUUUAUAAGAGUUUUUCUCUAUAUAGUUCCUUCAUUGUAGGAAUUUCUUUAGGUUAAUAUUACUAAAGUUGUAAUUUAAAAAAACAUAUAUAAUGGAAAUUAAGAGAAAUAUGAAAGCUAUAAAUUAGUGUUUUAUAUCAUUCUUUUUUCCUAUGAAUGCCAAAGCCAUUGUCAAAUAAAAAGUUUAAAUAAAGUAAUUAAUCAAGUAAUUAGUCGAAAGCAAAAUGGGUGACUUAAAACUAUUGCUUUGGUACAUGUUUGUUUGGGGUAUAGUAGAUCAUAAGAAAUAAAAUCCUCUAGCUAUGUUUAUUUGAUAGAAUAAAAUAGUGAGUGUGUGGUUGCUCUACAGGAGAAGACCACACGUUAGCCAAAGAAUAAGUAACUAGAAAGCUUACACAAGUGUUAAAUUAUCAAUUUCUCGCCUAAGCACAUUAAGGAGAACUAAAUGUUGAAUUAAACCAUACUCAUGCACCCAUACUAAGGCUCAUGCCUCCAUGUGGGGAGACCCUAAUUUCUCCCUUAAAGGGGAAGUUUAAAAGUGGCCACAUCCUCUAUGCCAUGUUAGUAUUCCAAAAACUUAGAAAGUUAACCUUUGAGCUGAUGCUUAUUUGUCUGGUAGUUUCCUCAUUCUUCUUACUAACUUGACCUUUGAAGGCUCUACAACCGUAAGGAGCCUAGAGUAUUCACUUUAGGUUUCGUAUGAUUGUAAGGUCCUAACCAUCCAUUGAAGUAAGAAAGUGAACUAAGAGUUGGAAAUGGUGAAGAUACAAAAAUUCAGCUCACCAAAAAAUCAUAGUAAAGCUACUAAAAAACACCUCACCCCCAGGCAAGGACCUUCAUUUGAGUACUCCUUGAGGUCCACCCAAAUCGAAGACCUAACGUUGAAGAAAUAAAGUCAACUAAACUUGGUUCCAUGCAUGAUAAGGUUGAAAAGGUUGCAUAAAAACCUACAGAAAGCUUCCCUCUUUAUAAGAAUAACCUGAACCUACAAGGGAAGAAAACCUAUAAAAGGAAAUCAUAAGCAACAAAGAAAAAAAAUUCCCUCCCUCAUUUGAAAAAGAUUUCUUUGAAUGUAGAAACCUAUUUUUUUGUAUCAAGAAACCUUCCUUUGUAUCCAAAAAUUGGUGGAAUAAAAAUUUUCGAUUAUCUAUGAAGAGUUUUAGCUUCUUCAUAUGGGAAUGCAUUAAAAUUCUUGAAGACAUUGUUUAGAUCUAUAGCAACAAUUGGGCAAUAGAAGACUAUGCAAUAGAGUCUUGGUAGGAAAAGCAAUCAUGACAGAAAUGAAGUGGAGCAAUGAGUGAGAGCAAACCCUUCAAUAGAUGGAGGAGCUCACUAAAAGAAGUGACUAACUCAUUCAAGAAAAUGUUUCCUUCAGGGUAAGGAUAGACAAAUACCAAUGUGAUUUUGACCAACAGCUCUCAUUGGCAAACACCAAUAAGAUGCAAAUUAAUGAAUAAUAGUUAUCGAAGCAGUUAGACCAACAUAUAGAUUAAAUUGGGAGAGAAAUGUGGGAGAAACCUUAAUUAAACUAACCAAACAGACCACUUUGCCAAAGGCCCCAAUGCUCUAAGGGCUUCUUGCCACCAGAGCUACCACAAAAUGCAUAAUCUUGGUGAAUAAGGUGAUUGAGCCCAAGUCCCUUUAGGAGGAGAAGGAGGCCAUAUGAGGUGAUUGAGCCCAAGUCCCUUUAGGAGGAGAAGGGGGCCAUAUGAGAGUUUUACCUCCCUAAGUUCAAUUUCUUUCAAUGAAACUAAAGACACACUAGACUACUCAUGCAUUUCUAAGCAUAUGAUGAUCUUAGAGAAGGGAAAUGGUCGACUUUUAUGUAAAAUCUUCUCCUCCAUCCUCCAAGGACUAACUUUGUUUUGUCUUUAUUAACUGACCUUAGAGUUUGUUCUUGAUAUUAAGACCCUAAGGUUGAAGUCUACCUCUUAGUACAUUCACUUAAAAAGACAAAAGAAAAGCCUCAAAUAACCCAAGGUAGUUAUAGCUACCAUCCAUGGUAGAUCAUCUACUAGAUUUGAGCAACUAGGUAGGGUAUCAAGAUGUUAUAGAAGCAUAUGGCAAUUGAAGCAAAAUUCCUCACAUCCUUGCAUGAAGCAACUACCACUUGCCCACAUGUCAUAUGUUUCUCUAAUAAAGACUUAAGAGGAGUCCAAAUCCUACUCAAGAUCCAUUGGUUAUUACUUUAAGGAUUAUUGACUACAACAUGCACCUAUUCUUAGUUGACAUAACAAGUUUAGUUAACUUGCUAAAUAUAUUAACCCAUAUAUGAACAAAUGAAUAUGGACGAAGGAAAACUAGUGUCAAGUCUUCGGUCAUUGGUGGGACUAGACAAAGUCCUAUGUGGCUCAAUUGGGGAAGUUGCUCUAAUGGUUCCAAUUGGUUGUUUCCAUAUAAUGACACAAUUCUUUGUUAUGGAUAUCCUUUUCCCGAUAAUGCUAUUAUGGGAUGACCAUGGAUAUACAACCUAAGAGGAACACUAUUCACAUACCAUUACAUCCUUAAAUUCCUAAUACUAUAAGGAAUAUGGGAAAUAUAUCGGGACUAGGCGGAAGCAUGAGUAUACUACACCAUAGCCCUUAAAGUAGUCAACAAGUGCAUCAAGUGGGACCCUUAGGAAGUUCAUAAAUCAAAAGUCAAAUACAAAUUAGUAGGUGACCCAAGAAGGCAAUUAGAGAACCUAGGAAGUCAUUAUUCUAGAGCCCCUCAACCUAGGAGGUUCCUUCUAGCCCAUGCAAAAAAAAAUUGGUUUAAGAUGGCUACUAGAAAAGAACACAUCUUUGCUAGGAAAUUAUAGGACAUCAUGGGCAUCGAUCCCCAAGUUACAUGUCAUCGACUCAACAUAAACCCUAGUGGUUAGGUCCUUAAAGACAUUAGAUUGUGAAUGAAAAGGUAUCUAGGCUCUUAGAUGCUAGAUUUGGUCAUCUAGGUCUUCUAACAACAAAUAGAAGUCAGUAUGCUAGUUUACAUUAAUAACAUGUUAGUAACAAGUAAGAAGAGGAAUGAGUACUUGAUCGACCUCCUAAGAACAUUUCAAACUCUUCGAAAAUACUAAAUGAAGCUAAAUUAGUGAAGUGCACCUUUAAUGUAGGGUGUGGAAGUACUUGGUUACAUACAAAGGAAUAAAAGCUAACCCAUACCAAAUAAAAUCAACUUUGGAGAUACCAAUGACCAAAAGGGCUAGAAAAGUCCAACAGUUCACUAACAAGAUUGGUUCUUGAAAUAGAUUUAUAUAUUGAACAACAAAUAUAUGUCAUCCUUUCUUUGACAUUAGCAAGAAGGGAAAAUGGACUAAAGGAACCAAAAAAUGCAACUAAGCUUAUGAAUCACUAAAGCAUUACAUCAUGCUAACCCCCAUUCUGGAUAAACCCUAGGAUAAGGAGGUCUUACAAGGUCUCAAUAGCAGUAGUAAGUGGAGUGUUAUCUCAAAAAAAAUGAAAAGAGGAGCAACCAAUAUACUAUGUUUAAAAGACUCUCUUAGAUGUGGAAACCUGAGAUAUAUAUAUAAAUAUUGAAAAACUGGUGCUUGCCUUUUAGAUCGCCACAUUGAAGCUUCAAUGUUACUUCCAAGCGCAUGUUAUUAAGGUAAGGACUAAGCGAUAAGAACUCAAACUUAAUACUUUAAUGGCUUUAAAGAGCCCACUUUAGUGUGUUUGAGGUACUAAAAAAUUAACCGAAUGUUUUGUUUUUUUAUAAUACCUUAGAAAAUUAUGUUUGAUGCAUUCUACGACCAUUCUACAUGCUUUAAGGUGUUUUCUUGUUAGGAUAGAAUCCUUAAAAGCAUGACAUGAUGUAAUAAAUUUGGAAUUCAUUAUUUAUUUAAUGAUGUUCUAGUUUCACAUUUAUUUAUCCUUAUUCCAUGAAUUGUUCUUUAUGAGCAUUCUUGCCUGCAUCUUUUGCAUUGUACGUGACUUAGGUGCAUUAGGAGUUGCACAAAAGAUUUAAGUCAUGGGUUUCUUGCAAAUAGAUUAUUUUUUCACAGUCAGCUCAUGAGCCUAGGCAAACCAUUAGAGGUUUUAGUGCACCACCUCCUAAUUUGAGGGAUGGUUAGUCUUGGCUAUGGGAUGAGUUUCCCAUGAUAAGUGCACUAGUGUGUAUGAUUGCACGUUAGAUGGGACCUAUGGUGAGUUAUGACUGAAGCCUAUGAAGUAGUCAUGACUCCACCAAGCUGCUUCAUUGUAUUAUCUCUCAACCUUGAGAGAAUAUUAAGUUUGUGCUGAAGUUAAUAGUGGCUUUGACUUAUAGGUGAGGUCAUAAGCGGAUCAUAUAUUCCCUAUGGAUUGGGUCAAUGUUGAUGGAAGUCGGUAGCAAUAGGUAUUCUUAAUAAAGGCACCAUGAUAUCUCUUAGGAUUGAGACAAUGUGUCCCCUUGGGUGAUCCUAAGGAGGUGUGUUCAUGGAAACUACGGCUAUAAUAGUUCCUUAAGUGGAAUUUGACAUAGACUCUUUAAGAUCUAAGCUAUGUUAAUUGAACACACAAUAGGAAGAUCUGUAGCUCAAGGAUGGUAGAAGUAGUCUUGAAAGGCUGAUAGCUUUCACCUUGUUAGACUACGGACACCAAUUCAUGGGGAGACUAAACACAAUGGAUAGUAGGUCACGAACCCGAGCACUUAGUGUCUUUGUUGUUAUUUACAUAGGAUACCGGAGUUUAGUUGAUUCUCUAUAGUGCAAUGUUGAAUCAACUUUAAAAUUGGACUAUGAGGGAGUCAGUAUUCCUAUAAGUCCCUGUGGUCCCCACUAUGAGCUUAUAUACCUUGUUGGCAUGGGUAAUGAGGGUUAGAUUGACUCUAGGUUCACUUUUGUGGAUAAGGGUAUUUUGGUAAUUAUGCAAGGUUAUAUAGGAGUAAGUGAACAAGGCCUUUGGAUUAGGCUAAUUGAUUAAUUAGUAGGUCCUAUUGGGUUAAUUAAUCAAUUAGAACCCAUUUUGGGCUAGAUUAAGUGACCUAAGCCCAUGUGGGUUCAAGUCACUUAAGCCCACUUAGAAACCCUAUAAAUACCCCUUAGGGGUUAGGGUUUCCAUAACUUUUGUCUUCCAUCAUCCAAAGAGAUAGAGAGCCAUAGCCUCCACCCUCUUUUCCUCAUCAUCGAAAGUGUGCCAAGAUCAAGGUUUGAGUCAUCGGGCGGAAGACUUCGGGUUUAUGAGACUUCUGGGAUUUCGAUCUUCACCAUGUGGAUGUGAUUCGGGAACACCUGAAUCUAAUGUAUAGUUUUUGUUAGCACUUUUUGAAUCUUUUUAAAGUAUAAAGAUGUUAUUUUUCCAUUGUGCAUAGGAUUUAGAAAAAACCUAAGAUAGUUAUGCAUGUUCCUAACUUGAUUUAAACUUGGGAAAAGAAGAAAGAUUAAGGUUUUUCCCAUCAUUUUUGGUGCAAUAGAACCUUGUUAGGAACUCAUAGAGACAAAAAUGCCCAAGUAAGGAGGAAACAUAGAUUGCACACCUAAAAGGUGUGCAAGACUCAAUCAUGCACUUCUUUCUUUGUGUAGAGCCUCAUAGUGCACCUCCCAUGUAUACCUUAAAGACCAAACACACAAGACCUCUCUAAUGCUUUGGACCAAAUUUUACACCCUAUUCAAGCAACUCAAUCUGCAAACCUCUUAAGUGCUCUAAGCCAAGAUGUUGUGGACCCCUUCACUCGAGUCAAUAGGAUGUGUAGUAGUGCAACCCCUUGAUGUCAUCUAAAUUACAAACCAUUUUUACCUCUACAAUAGCUAAGUCUUAAUAAUUCUUCUAAUGAUUGGCUCACCCACCAAAGUAGUAUGUUGUUCAUACCUCAAAGUCUUCAAUUGUACUACCAAAACGUACCCAGACCAAAUUACAUAGAGAAAAAGGUGCAACUACAGACCAUAAGCUAACACAUCAAGAAUGAUGGUGGGUUGAUUGCAAUGGCAAAGGACUUGACCCUUAGUAUAAGAAGAGACAAGUCAAGAUGGAGUGGUGUCAGAGUAGUUGGAAUGACCAAGGAGGGGAGGGGGGACGUUUUUUUUGUCUAUAAAUGGAGGAUUGUGAAUAUACAAGUGGAAGCAAAUUAUAGAAAGUGAAAUUACAGAUAAGUUUUUUCUUCUUGAAGGAACAGAAGUAGGAAUAAGAGUAACUCAAUGUAAUUUUAGUUUUUAGUUUUUCAUUGUAAUAUUUUCUUUUUAUUAUAAACUUUCCCUAAUUUCUAAUUUAAUGAAUUUUCUAGUCUUUUUAGUUAAUCUUAUAUUUCAGUUUUUCAAUUUCAACUUACAAAUUUGCAUUUUUAGUUCUUUACUUAAUUUUUAACAUGCUUAGAUAACCUUUAACACUCUAAGGGGUGAGAAGAGCUCAAGUCUCCCAUAUCUUAGUUUAGUUGUCUAUUGGUUUAUCUGUGCAUUAGUUACAAACAAUAUGAUCCCUAUCAGUAGUUAUAAUGACCAAAAUAAGUAACCAUGGGGAAAAAAGUCUAUGUUGCAUUGGUUGUGAGUGUUGUAAGUCAAGCAACCUUGGAAGCAUACUUGGGCAUUGUUUUAAUGAUUCUUUCAACUAAGGAUAGGAAUAUUGACAUGAAAAGAAUCUUAUCUAAAUCAUUUGGUUGUAAGGAUAUAAAAAAAAAUUAAAAAAUAAAAAGCAACUAGAGAUAGAUGAACCUUAUUAAGGUGGUUCUUGUUCAUUUGAAGCAGGAAACCUUUUUGGUAUAAAUCCUUGCUUUGACCCUAAAUCUGAAAGCAUAAGUUCAAAGCCUUGUUGGUGAGUUGUAUCUAAAAGUGGUGAUCCUAGUGAAUCUCUAGGUUUGAGGCUUUCUUUCCUUUAAUUUUCUAUCUUUUAAACUUUGUGUGUGUAUGUCUUUUUUAUUUAUAAAAUCAUUUUUCUAAUCUUUUAGCGGACAUUCACACUCCUAAAGCUGUUACCUUAGUUGCUACCAAUUUAAAGUUCCUUGUGGAGGCAACCUAACAACUAUACAACUAUUAAUUUUUUUUUUGUUUUUUUUUUGUUUUUUGGUUAAGGAGUUGAGAGUUUCAAUGAAUGAUCUAGUUUAAUUUCUCUUUGUAAAACUUAACUGUUAAAUAUAUUUCCAAGUUUUGAUAAAAAGUAAUGAAUUAGAGAAUGACAAACAAAAAUUAGUAUCGUCACUAGGGAACUUUCAACAUUGAUGACUCUAAAGGUACGUAUUUUUGUGUAUAUGCUUGUUGUUUUAGAAGCUUAACAAGUAUAUUUCACCCAUUACCCACCUAUCUUUUAGUUGGAUUUUUUUUCUUUUUUUACUUAAUUUGUUUUCUUUGGAUUUUCUUUUUCUGCUCAAUUUUCAUUUUUAGUUGUUAAAUCCAACAUUUCAAACAUUUUCUUUAAAGUGAUAUGAUGUAUUAGGGAAAUAAUUUUAAAGGAAGGGUACUAAGAGUGUGUUUGGGAGUGAUUCUACGAAGCGUUUCUAACAUUUCUAACACUUGAGUGAUAAAAAUUUUCAAGUAUUAUGAAUAUUAAAAGUGUUUCCUAGAAUCACUACCAAAUGAGUUCUAAGUAAUCAACUAGAAGAAACAAUUUUAGAGGAAGGACACUAAGUAAUCAACCAAAAAAAAAUGAUUUUAGAGGAAGGACACUAAGUAAUCAACCAACCCCUAGUUAUCCUUUUCCUCAACACACCAGACCAUCACUAUCUAAUAUCUAUUUUCCAAAUUCAACUAUUGGUAGUACUAAUAAAAGUGUGAUGAAUGGGGUUUUUAACCCCAAUAACUAGCCACCUAGGACCAUGAGGGAUUAUGUACAGCCUAGUCGGGUCAAUGCUCCUUCGUGCUUGAUAUUUCUUUUUGACACUUCUCAAAUAAACAUUGAUCUUGAAAUGAUCCAAUUGCUAUCUCUAUUUUGUGGAAGGGAGGAUGAAAAUCCUUUUUCUUAUUUAAAAGAAUUUGAAGAGGUAUGGUCUAUUUUGGCAGAGCCUUCGUGAAAUCUAGAUCAUUCAAAACUCAAGGUUUUCUUUUUUCAUUAAAGAAAGAGGAUAACCAUUGGUGGUAUAGCAUGUGACUAUAGUAUAAGUUCUUAGGCUGCUAUAUAAAAUAUUUUUUUCACAAAUUUAUUUUGGUAUAUAAAAUUGUUUCCUUUGAAAGACAAAUUAAAUUUUUUUGUUUUAUAGAGAAUGAGACUUUUCAUCAUUGUUAUGAUAAAUUUAAAGUUUUGUUGUUUAACUUCCUUACCAUAGUUUUGAAAACUCAAGGAUUGCUUCUUCUUUUUAAAGGGGACCAUCCCCCUAAAUGAAAUAAUUUGUUGAAAACAUGACUGGUGGGUACUUUAUACAGGAGGAACCAAAAGAAGCACUUAAGCAUUUAAAAUUGCUUGCUGAAAAAUCAAGGGUUUGGGACCCCUUAGUCCUCAAGUGCAUCUUCUAGAACGUGAAAGCCAACCCCAACAACAUAUUAUCUCUCAUCUCAUCUCUCUAUUUAUCAUUUCCCCUUAGAACAAGAGUUUUGACGAAGAUGAUUUUUGGAUGCUGUAAGAGGACGAAGCCACUGAGGUCAAGGAAAAGGAAGUUGUGUACAUAGCAGCUGAAAAGAAUUUGUUGAAAAAGAAUCAGUUGAAGAAGAGAACUUCCAACAGGUUGCAAAUAAGGUUAUAAGCUGCAUUUUUUCUUCUUUUCACAAAAAAAAAAAAAAAAAAAAAAAAAAACAAAAACAAAAACAAAAAAAAAAAAAACAAAAAAACAAAAAAAGAAACCCUUAAAGAGCAAGAAACAGAGGAGGAAUGGAGCAAUGUAUUGCAUGAUCACACCAACUUUAUUUGUCUCUCAAUUCCCUUCUCUUUGCAACCCAAAAAUGUUGAUCUUCAAGGUAUCAUCAGAGGGCUUCUCAAUAUCGAUCUCUUCUAAUGAAAAAAUUUUCUUGACUAGAGGGGAGGGCAUCCAAAAAAUUUUAGGAAACAAUGAAGAAAAAUUUAUCAAAAUGGAUGCUUCCAAUCUACCUGUGGGAAGCAAAGAAAAAGUGAAGAACCAUUGGCUAGCUAGAAGUUAGCCAAAAACUUGUAAAUAGCUUUCAUUUUUUAUUUUCUUUGUUAUUUUUGUUUUUAUUGCUUUGGCCAAUUUAGUAUGUAGGAGCACCAUCAUUGUGAAGCCUAUAAUAUUAUGUUCUCAGUCCACUCAAUACAUUUGGGUAACCUUUAUCAUCUCAUAAGAACUCAAGUAUAAAUUUCUCUAUACUCUAUUGGUUUUAUCAUGCUUCAGAGUAGGUGUAAAUUGUUAACAACAGGAAGGUGCACAAAGUGUAGGACAUAUAGGAAUUGCGCACUUUUGAGGUUCGCUAACCCAACUUGUAUGAUGACUUAAAUUGCAUAUCUGUAGAGCAUAACUCAAAUUGUUCACUUUGAAAGCAUGACUGAAAUUCCACACCCAAAGAGAAUAAUUUAAACGGUGCAUCCAAAGGAACCAUUUAUAUUGCCCAGCUUAAAUUACACACCAUAAGUGCGCAAUCAUUUCUCAUGGGAUGCCUACUUAUUCUUUUGUAUUAUUGUGCAAGCACGCCAUCCAUAAUAAAAAUCUUUAUUCUCUUAUGUAAACUUCUUGGAAGAAAAAUGUCUUCCCAAAUAAAACCAUAAUUGCUUGGAGACUUUUGUCCACCCCACCAUCAUAUAUAUCAAUUGAGGUGUGGGUAGGUAACCGAGAAGUCUUCUAAGUUUUAUAUAAAAGAAGUAAUUUUCACUACCUUUUGCAUGCACUCAAACAAGAACACAUACAAUAACGCAACAUGAAAACUCCAAAGAAUGGUAAAACCAAAACACUGAGCCUAAAUAAGAUAAGGAAGUGAGACAAAAAUGAACAAUCAAGCCAAUUUGUUGAAGUCAAUAGCCACAAUACUAGAAUAAUCCAACAAGCAUUCAGUGGAAUGAGCAUUUGGACAGAAAGGGAACACAUUAAAUUUAAAAGCAUUUGAAGCUAGCAAUGGGUGAUAUUGAAAUUUUUGGUCAAUCUCACCCUCAGUGCAGAAUUCCAAAUUGUUUCCAACUUUUCUGGGGAAAAUGGAGAAUUUUUUAUUUUUAAAUUCCUCAUGUAUUUUUCUGUAAUAUUUUUCUUACAUUUUUAUAUUAUCCAAAGACAGAAAAUUAAUUAUUCCUUUCAUGUUUUUUUUCUUUUUUAUUUAUAGGACAGAGCUAAACAGGAUUAACAUAAAAGAAAAUAACUUGACUUAUAAACAAAAGCAAGGGAGAUGCAAUGACAAACACAAAGCAAUUUAAAAGGGGCAAGCGAGUAAAGAAACUAACAGUGAUAUAUCAUGAGUUGGCAUAAGUUGAAGCAACUUCCACUUCGGAAAGCCCAAGGCCUUUUAGCCAAUACUGUCAAAGGGGCAAAAUCCUCGUGGGGGGCGGAAUCGAAAUGGCAUGUGGCAAGGUCAGAAUAACGUUCAACCAGACGCAGUGCUACAUCUGCAUAUUAUAAAAUUGUACAUGGGAACCCGACGGUAAUUCAUAUCAAGAAAAUAGAUAGGGGAUGGUAAAUAUAGCUCACCAUGAAACCCCACCAUUAGUGCUCUGCCCAGAAGUUCGAUUCCAGACGAACCUGACCAUACAUCAUCUCUGGUGACGCUUAAUAAAUAUAAAGUCAGCUCUUUAUGACCAUACUUAACAGCGGUGUGAAGAGGCGCAAAAUGUUGGCGGUUGCAGAUAUUGGGCAAGUUUUGGUUUUUCUUCACUAAGAACUUGACUGCUUUUAUAUUGCCAGCCCUUGCAGCGUUGAAAAGGGCAGUGGCGUCAUCAGAAUCCCGCAGAGCCAGUGUCUCACUUGGAUCCUCACGUAACAUAAACUCAACCAACUUCUCCA